rnacentral:lncRNA from 1 species
AUGGACUUGACCCAUAGCCGAUGGGCUAACUCCAAAUUCACGGGUGGCUUCUUUUAUUUAUUUAUGUUUAUUUUUCAUUUUAGUUUUAUCAGCACUCAUUGGUUAGUUUUUUUUUUUUUUUUUUUUUUUUUUUUUUUUUUUUUUUUUUUGGAUGACCACUCAUUGGUUAGUUUGGUGGUCGCAUUUGGAUUGGUUCAAAAUUUGUCCUAGACGACAAACCCAACUGAUCUCAUCGGUUUGGAUUUUUUCUACAAAUCGAAACUGAUUGAACCGUAUACCUAACCAAUCCAAAUCAAGUUAUCGCUUGAGAGUUUGAUUCCGACUGUUUACGAUUUUAACCACUUAAGCACGUUGCAACAGCAUCCUAUUCGGUAAGAUUAUAAUUGGAUUUGUUCAAUUGGUUAAAUUGUGUUUUCUUUUUUUUCCUUGAGAAAGGAUGCCUAACGAAUAUACUCAGUCAUGGACGCUGCAUUGAGAUUCUUCUUCCCGGCAAAUUGGACCUCAAUUAAAGAACAUAUAUUCCAUUGCCCAUACUUCAGCAAGUUCAAAACUUUUGGAUAAAAUGUACGUUACGCUGACGUGGCACUCUGAAUCGGCUGCAGCAAGUAGCAGCAGCUGACUUCUGAGAGAGACAACAAGAAGAGGAUAAACUCGAUGACUCAACUCACACAAACAAAACGGCAAAACCCCGCUCAGUUUGUAACAAAUCGAAACGUCACCGUUCAUCUCAUCUCUUAUUAGUAAAUUACCUAAACCUCCAGCACAAAUCUGUUUGAUAUUUCUGUCAAUUAUAGUCUCUUCUUCUUCUAUAAUUGAGAUUCUCUAUCUCCCUCCUUGAUCACAGCGAUCAUUGCUAGAGAGAGAGAGAGAGAGAGAGAGAGAGAGAGAAAAUGAGGAUUGACGAAGAGAGCGAAGGAGUUUCGGCGUCCAGGAACCACCUGGUGUUUGCUUACUAUGUCACCGGCCAUGGCUUCGGCCACGCCACUCGCGUCGUUGAGGUCAGCUAUCUCUGCUCUCUGAUCACUGUUUUCUUCAAAUUUCAAUGUCGAUUGUCCAAUUGCUGAUCUGCUCCGUCAAUGCGGUGUUUUUUUUCUCUUCUCUAAGCGUAGGUUGUGCGGCACCUGAUUCUGGCCGGCCACGAUGUGCACGUCGUAACCGGAGCGCCGGACUUCGUUUUCACGUCGGAGAUAGAGUCGCCUCGGCUCUUCAUUCGCAAGGUAUCACUUCCACAAUCUCACAAGUUGCAUGUCUCUCAAUGAUAAUAAUUAAUAUGCAUCAAUGAUCAAAAUGAUAAUUUUAUAGAAUUAUUUUAUGAUUUGUGAUAUUUUAGCUUUAUAUUAGUAAUGUAGCAGUAGCAACUUUAUUUACUUACUGAAUUUUUGGAUAUUAGGUUCUUCUAGACUGUGGAGCUGUUCAGGCAGAUGCUUUAACAGUCGAUCGUCUUGCAUCCUUAGCAAAGGUAAUAGGAAGUGACAUUUCCUCUUUUUUUUUUUCUCCAUUUUGUUGAUUAUUAUUUUUUUAUUUAUCGUGGUGGAGAAGUAAUGUUGCUGAUUCUGUUAUAUUUGUUUAGUAUUCGGAGACGGCUGUGGUGCCAAGGGCUUCUAUUUUGAAAACAGAAGUUGAAUGGCUAACCUCCAUCAAGGCUGACCUAGUGGUACUUAAAAUGUUUCUUCUGUUGUUUUGUUGAUAUGGGUUUGAGCCUGUCCAUUGUAGUCCAUUAAGAUUGAGUGGAAGGGAGCUUUGAUUUGUGUUUACAUUGUUGCAUAAAGAUCCUUGCUCUGACAGUUUAUCCUACUUGUACAAGAACAGGUCUCAGAUGUUGUUCCUGUUGCGUGUCGUGCAGCAGCAGAUGCUGGAAUUCGCUCUGUUUGUGUCACUAACUUCAGGUAUCUUGUUAUCACUAGCAUUCUUUUUUAGUCUUUUAGUUGUAAAUGCAUAACUUGAAUGACUUUUGAUGAUCUUGAGCUGUCCAACUCUUUCAAAUUUGUGUAAACUCUCAGUGUUCUUCGUUUCUCUAUGCAGUUGGGACUUCAUCUAUGCAGAAUAUGUGAUGGCUGCUGGAAGUAAUCAUCGUUCAAUCGUUUGGCAGGUGACCUUCCUGUGCUUUAGAUUGAAUUAAUUACCAUUAGAUUUUAUUCAUUUGCCCAUUGCAUCCUCCACCUUUCUUUGAUACAAUCCGGCCAUGUCUCUGUAUAUCAAUGUCGGUGCGAAACAUACUGACUUAUGUGUUGUUUAGAUUUGCCUUUUGAUGUUUUAUGUGGUAAUUUUCUUUGUGUUGAUUAUAGAUAGCGGAAGAUUAUUCCCACUGUGAGUUCCUCAUCCGCCUCCCGGGAUACUGCCCAAGUAUGUUGCUUUCAACCCCAAGACAGUAGCUUCCUUGUGUUUAUUACCUUUUAUCUCUCCAGUUCAGGGAAUUAUUUAUUAACUUGUCUCAUACUGUAUAUUUGACUUUACAGUGCCUGCUUUCCGUGAUGUGGUUGAUGUACCUCUAGUUGUGAGGAGGAUUCGCAGAUCCCGCAAAGAGGUUUUAGUCUCAAGAUCUUUAGCAAAGCCCUUCCAUUGGUUCAUUUUAUUGAUUAUCUUUUUCAUUCUUUUCCUGGUUAUAGGUGAGGCAGGAACUCGGAAUUGAAGAUGACGUAAAACUAGUCAUCCUCAACUUUGGUGGACAGGUGAAUUGAUGAUUAAACAGUGCUCCCUGGAUUAUUGUUGGGAUGCCUUUAUUCCAGUUUCAUCUAAUUUUGAAUGAUUCAGUUAGAUCUGUCAGUGAUAGAUUAUGCAUGCAGCCUCACAAUAACUUUAUGAGUUCUCCAAUGCACACUUAGCUAUCUGCACUCAUAUACUAUUACUUUAAGUUGCAAUUCAUACAAACUUGCAUAUUCGCUCACACGUAGUUCAUAGUUCAUUAUGUCUAUUGCUAAUUGUACUUGUAUAUUUCUCUCUCUAUCUGCAGCCAGCAGGCUGGAAAUUGAAAGUGGAGUUUUUACCCCCUGGAUGGCUGUGCCUGGUAUUUUCAUGGAAUUUUCUAUACGUUUUCUUCCUGUCUAAAAGUGCUUUUCAUUUUUUUAAAAUAAUAAUAAAGGUUUUACUGUUUUUUGGUUCAGGUUUGUGGUGGUUCUGACACCCAGGAGCUUCCACCAAAUUUCAUAAAGCUUGCAAAAGAUGCUUAUACACCUGAUUUUAUGGCAGCAUCUGACUGUAUGCUCGGUAGGUUUGAACUAUUUUGGUAGGGAGCUACAUUGAAUGGACAGAGAUCAAAAAAAUUUGGUUCAUGUUAUUUCAGGAAAAAUUGGAUAUGGCACUGUGAGUGAAGCCCUUGCAUACAAGUUACCCUUUGUCUUCGUACGCAGAGAUUAUUUCAAUGAAGAACCUUUCUUGAGAAAUAUGCUUGAGGUUUGGUCCAUUUCUUAUAAAAGAAAAACUUUAUUACAUUUUUUGAGCAAUGUCUUCUUCAUCUUCUUCUUCCUCUCUUAUAUGCUUGUCAAUAGUCUGAUGCUAGUUCGGUUUAAAAUAAUUUCGUAUGACAGUAUUAUCAAGGUGGUGUUGAGAUGAUUAGGAGGGACUUGCUCACUGGUCAUUGGAAACCUUACCUUGAGCGUGCAAUCAGUUUGAAACCGUGCUAUGAAGGAGGUAUCAAUGGUGGUGAGGUACCUUCUUUGUUUCUAGAAUUCUGUGAUUAGUUAUACAUUUUGAUUUUGCAUCUAUGCAGUAAUGUAAAAAUUCAAAAUAUAGGUGGCAGCUCACAUCCUGCAGGAGACGGCUAUUGGGAAAAACUAUGCAUCAGAUAAGGUAAUUGAACUUAAUCAACUUGUAGGUUAACAGAACUUCAAUACCAAAUCGUUUUGUUAUAAUGAAUUUCCUCCAGUAGCAGAGACUCAGAACCUGCUCUAUAAAAUUAGUGAAUUAGCACUAUAGUCUGGCACAAAUUCACAGGGUGUUGGAAUCUAAUAGGCCAAACUGUGCAAACCCAAAAAGAAAAGGGCUAAGGUUGGGUGGUAGAAGAUUCACAUUUCUGUGGAGAAUAAUUUAUUGAAACUGUUAUUUCAAUGAAAUAAAAGAAAAUCACAUUUUGAUUCUACUUUUGUCAUGUAGCUAAGCGGGGCAAGAAGAUUGCGUGAUGCCAUAAUUCUUGGGUAUCAACUACAAAGGGUACCUGGACGGGAUAUGGCCAUUCCUGAAUGGUAUGCAAAUGCUGAAAGUGAACUUGGAAUGGGAUCACCUACUUGCGAAAUGAGCGAGAAGAGCUCCCUAAUGAACUCGUGAGAUGUAUAUUCUAUUAGUGUUGUCGUUAUACAAAAAUUAUUUGGAUACUAAUAAGAUUAUUGCAAUUCUAUUUUUAGAUGCACUGAGGACUUCGAGAUUCUUCAUGGAGAUCUUCAGGGUCUUUCAGAUACAAUGACAUUUUUGAAGAGCUUGGCAGAACUUGAUUCUAUGUAUGACUCUGACAAAAGUGCUGAGAAGCGCCAGAUGAGGGAGCGCAAGGCUGCAGCCGGACUCUUCAACUGGGAGGUCUCACUUAGCUGAACUAAAUCUCAUAUGCUUUUUCUUAGGUUUUCGGUUUUUACUAUAUCAGCAAAUGCCCACUAGCUGCUGUAGAUGACAUAUUAACAUUAUGUAUAUAUUGACGUAGUUACUUUGGAACUGAUAACUUGUUAUAUGUGCAUUUGCAAUGACACCAUCACUGUUUUUCUGCAUUUCUUUUGUGUACGUUUGGUGUAUAAAUGACCAUUUAAGGUUAACUAAACUGCUUGACAGCAUUAUUUGGACGUUUGCCUUAGGAAGUAUUAUAUAUGUAUUCGUAUUUGUCAGAAUAUAAACUGUCUUUCCAAUGGUUUUACUAAACAAUUGUGUUUCAUUUUUGGGAUACAGGAUGAAAUCUUUGUGGCAAGGGCACCUGGACGGUUAGACGUAAUGGGAGGAAUUGCUGACUAUUCAGGAAGUCUAGUCUUGCAGGUUUGUCUCUGUAUUUUAUUAGUUAUCCUGUCUUCAUAAGCUUGCUCUUGCCACUCAGUGCAGUGUGUACACAUUUGCACAUGGAUGCAGACAUACACACAUUGGACAAAGCUGCCUUUUGGCAUGGUCUUUCCUACUGAAUGUUUCUUCUGAUUUUCUUUCUCACAGAUGCCCAUAAAGGAAGCCUGCCAUGUUGCUGUACAAAGAAAUCAUCCAAGUAAACAUAGGCUCUGGAAACAUGCCCUGGUUCGGCAGCAGGCUGAAGGAAAAAACCCAACACCUGUCCUGCAAAUUGUAUGUAUAAGCAUUAAGAAUCAAUAAGCAUAGAAAGUGGGUUUGUCUUACUGGUACAAAUUUUAAUAUCGUUACCAUCUCCAUAUAUUGGCUGUAUCAGGUCUCAUAUGGUUCAGAGUUAAGCAACCGUGGCCCAACUUUUGACAUGGAUCUAGCUGAUUUUAUGGACGGUGAUCAACCAAUGUCAUACGAGAAGGCAAAGAAAUAUUUUUCACAAGAUCCAUCUCAAAAGUGGGUCAAUCUUCUUUACUUAAUGUAUCUGUAUUUGUAACUUUGUACACUGCUUACAUGGUCUCCAUUUUAGGUGGGCGGCAUAUGUUGCAGGUGUCAUUCUGGUUUUAAUGACAGAACUAGGCAUACGUUUUGAGGAGAGCAUCAGUUUGCUGGUAUGAGUUGGCACUUAUUUUGUUUAGAGAAUAUUCUGAUUUAUUCUUAUCUCCUAGCUCAGAACUUUUGCUGUUAUAGUGUUUUGCCUGUUCUGUUCUCUAUUCUCUGCUGUUCAAUACAUAUGUGUAGUUGCUUACAAAUAGUUUGUUGUGGUAUAGCCCAUAAUGUUGACACAUACACUUCUCAUAACGUACAGGUUUCCUCGACAGUCCCGGAAGGCAAAGGUGUCUCUUCUUCUGCUUCUGUGGAGGUUGCUACCAUGUCUGCCAUAGCUGCUUCCCAUGGUAUUUCCAUUAUUCAAAUAUUACAGAGCUAGAAAACUUAAUAGUCUUCAAAUUCUUUUUUUAGCUUUUCUAAUUUCAUUUUCUACAUAUAAUAGAAGUGGUUCUUUUAUAGCUUCUUGCAUAAUAUUCUUAUUGUUUCUUCCUUGUUUCUAGAAAAAAUGACAACAUUUGUGAACUUAGAUAAACCCAGCUACUAAAUCAGGCCUUUUCAUUUGUAACUUCAGAUUUAUUAUUAACUUGUAUAGAGUUGUACAGGUUUAUCUUUGUUAUCCCAAAAGAAAAUUUCAUGGAAAUUUAUGAAGAAUAUUUGUGUGGAAAUACUUACACAUUUGCAUGCUUGUUUUCUUCUUUUGAUAUCAAGCUGGUUAUUUAUCAUGUUGUUUGUUUGACUUAGAAAGUUCUAUUUCUGGUUGAUUUAAAGUAUUGCAUAUUUGGGCCUAAUAAACCUUUUUUUUAUUUAAGUAUUGACUAUUCAUUUUGUUUAUUAAGUUAUGAACAUGGAAAACUAAAUGACUAAAACCUACUCCUGUGCUUUGUAGGAUUAAGCAUCAGCCCCAGAGAUCUUGCUUUGCUUUGCCAAAAGGUUGCACCUUCAGCACUGUAUUAUAAUCAACAAGCUAGUGGUUUUCUUUUGAAAAUUACCUUGAUUAUCCUAGUUGUUUAUUAGGUGGAGAAUCAUAUUGUUGGAGCUCCGUGUGGUGUGAUGGACCAGAUGACUUCUGCAUGUGGUGAAGCCAAUAAGCUUCUUGCAAUGUUGUGCCAGGUAUCCUUUAAUGUUUCUGAAAAUAACUCUGCUGCAACAUUUUACAUAUUGAGAAAUCAUAUCAUUUUUCUUUUUGGUUCUUUGUACAGCCUGCUGAGGUUCUUGGCCUUGUAGAAAUUCCUGGUCAUAUCCGAUUUUGGGGAAUUGAUUCAGGAAUACGACACAGGUAGGAGAUCUUUAUCAACUUUUUCCAUGAAUUUUAACAUUUGCUCCCAAUUCUCACAAUUCUAGUAAACGUUUGAUCAGCUUAAACCAUUUGUUGAUGGAGUUUUUAUUAUAUGAUCUAUAUCAGGACUUAGUCUGAUCUUUAAUCCUAAAAUAACAACUUGUACUUAAGCCUUGCCAUUUUUCUUCUUGGGUAGUGUUGGAGGUGCGGAUUAUGGAUCUGUUAGAAUAGGUGCCUUCAUGGGUCGAAAGAUGAUAAAAUGUGCAGCAUCUGCUAUUUUGUCUCGAUCAUCAGGAGCUGAAAAUGGACCAAACCCUGAUGAGUUAGAGGAUAAUGGUUUUGAACUACUUGAAACUGAAGCUUCAUUAGAUUACUUGUGCAACCUGUCACCUCAUAGGUAAUGUUCUCUACUGGGCCCUUUAAAUAAUUUCUUAAAAACUAAGGUGCAGUUACUGGCCAAAAAUAAACAAAGGUGAUGUUUAUAGCUAAACUACUUUUAAAAUUGUAUUGGUCCUAUAAAGGAUUGUUUAUUUAUUCCAAAACUUGAAUUUCAGAUACGAGGCUCUUUAUGUUAAGAUGCUCCCUGAGUCUAUACUUGGUGAAACUUUUCUUGUGAAGUAUGAUGGUCACAAUGAUCCAGUUACAGUAAUUGAUCCAAACCGUAACUAUGGAGUGACAGCACCUGCUAAACAUCCUAUAUAUGAAAAUUUCCGAGUUAAGGUACCCAGAUUUUUUAUUCCUUUCAAUAUGUCUAUCUCUAAAUGCUUUUAUUCUUCCUAUCAUCUAAGGUACUUGGUUUACUGUUUAAUGUAUAGGCAUUCAAAGCACUGUUAACAUCUGCAAAUUCAGAUGAUCAGCUUACAGCUCUCGGAGAGUUAUUGUACCAGGUACGUACAAAUAGUUGAAGAAAACCUGUAAUUCGAACUCCUCUUCAGCACAAUUAUAGACAAGACUACAGAAAAUAUUGAAUGAUACCAUUUUUAGCAUAGGAGUCAAGUACUACGCAUAAAAGCCACCAGGUUCACAUCCUUUCGUCGUACAGAUAAUUGGAGGACCAGUACCAACAAAUCUCGAGCUACUUGCUGGCUGGACAGUAACUGAGUUUGCUUAAGCAAAUCAAGCACUACCUGAAUUUUUUCUUUUCGUUAAAUCAUUGAGUUAGCACCUAGCUUUAAAUAUAUUGCAUGGAUUAUUUAUUGAGCUACAGAAUCUUAGAAUGCUGGACACGCUCGCUCUUUUUUUUUGCAGUGCCACUACAGCUACAGUGCCUGUGGACUUGGCUCCGACGGAACAAACCGCCUUGUACGGUUGGUACAAGAGAUGCAACACAGUAAAGCAUCUAAAUCUGGCGACGGGACACUAUAUGGAGCCAAGAUUACAGGAGGAGGUUCUGGUGGAACAGUUUGUGCAGUUGGUAGGAAUUCUCUACAGAGCAGCCAACAAAUUUUGGAGGUAAUUUUAUCAGGCAAACAGUAUUUUACUUAAUUAAACAUUAUUAUACCAGAAAUUGAGUUUAUUGAUAGAAUGGUUGAUUUUGAUGUGUCCAGAUUCAGCAGAGAUACAAGGAUGCAACAGGGUACUUGCCAUAUAUUUUUGAGGGCUCAUCACCUGGUGCAGGCAAGUUUGGAUAUCUAAGAAUACGACGCCGUCCCUGUGUCAAUCCAAAUGAGUAAUUUACGGGAAUGUAAAAUGUCUAGUACUUUAUUAAUUUGGGUUUAAAUUUAUGAACCUUCUUAAGAAUCUCCCCUCUGGUACAACUGUCUUGUGGAUGUAUUGGCCUAUUGGCGUAUUGGUGUAUUGGUGUAUUGGCAGUAUAACAAUAAUAUUAUUGGAAGUCCAAAUAAAAUUAAUAAAAUUAUAUAUAUUUUUUCAUUCCAUAUGGUUUUGAUUUUUCUGAGAUACAGAUUAAAACAUGACGAAAUUCAAAUAUUCAAAGUAGGGAUAUGAAAAGUUUGGUUCUUUCUUCUGAUGCUGGUUCCAAUCAAGAUUUCUCAUACGUUUAGUACAACAUUGCUCUGGCAACAUAUAAAUUCCAAUCAAGAUAAUGAGAAAAGUAGAAUAUUGAAUCUGGCCCAACCCUUCAGCCAACCAAACAAAAUAAAACCAAACCUACAAACAAAUGGGUAAUAAACAGUUUGCCCUGACCACCACUGCCUCAAACAAGUUAUUUCGAUUAUUAACACACUGGAUAGCAUUUAUAUAAAUCAUAGAAUGGUAGAUGUUGUUUUGUUUAUAUGGAUCAGAAUCUACAAAUCGAAUAUAGCAUCACGACGCGGCGGGAUUCUCAGGACCCUGCUGAAAAAAUGAUUCAUAUGUUGCAACUCUCGGCUUUGCUUCAGGCAGCUCCAGCUCUUCUAUGAAACCCGUAGUCAUCUUGAUAAAAUCUUUCUUGUGUAUUUGCUUCCAUUCCUUGUCAAUAUUUAAGUGGUCAAAGAAACUAAGAAAGUCAGACACAAUACAAGUGACUAAGGUGCUAACUAAAAACGGCGUCGGUACACAUAGAAAAGCUCUAGUUUAUUUUGGGUUCUCUAAAUCUUGACAUAAAGUAAAAUCUAUAUAUAUCAUCCUGUUUUGAAAUAAGAAUUCUAAACUCAGUAGUUAAGUACUGAAAUUAGGCAGAAACCAGGAAUUUCAACAGUAUAAUUUUUUUUUUCCGUCUAUUAUGUGUGGGCGGCUGACUGGCUUUGUCUCGGGAGCUCUUAGUGCACUCUAGUCUAAGGGUGGUUCAGCCCUUGCUUGUUCAUACUCAACUAUACUCAAAUAAAGUAGGAUGGAAGAGCUUUUACCUCAAAAUUCCAAUCUCCAUACAAAUUUGGAUCACUUUUGUUGCUCCAAACGUAAGCUUGAACUAACAAGUUGUCAGAACUAUCCUGGAAAAAAAAAUGGUUACAAAGUUCUUGAGACAAGGCACACAUUUAUUAACAAAAUCCAUCAAACAUUUCCCAAAGGUCAUGAAAAAAACUGAUGAAGUGGUUAGUUCCAAUCACAAAAAAUGCAUCAAAAUUGUAGGUUUUUUCUUUUAGCUUUCUAAUUGUACCCAGCCUUUGCCAAUCAUCGUCUUCAAUUUGAUAUUUGCAAACUAUGAUGUAACAGUAAACAUUAUGAGAUUGUAAAGAAUGCAUUUGAGCUACCAACUUACCACCGAGGAGACCUCAACAGUGCUCCUCUCAUACUCAACAUCCUCAAAUUCAUCCAGAAUGUGUAAUUCAGGAUCUGUGAUGCCCAACAGGAGCUGCACAAGAACAAGACAAAGCACUCUCCUUUUCUUAAUCAAACAUUUACAAUUAAUUAAUUUUAUUUAUUUAUUUAUUUUUCAUCUACAAAUUGAUCAGGGCUUAGGCCUUGCCUUGCCAGUAACUUUGUCAUUCUCAACCGGUAGAAUCGCCGGAUAAACUCGUCCUUUGAUGCUAUACCUAUGGCUACACAUUUCACAUCAUCAUCAUCUCAAAUUUCACUUCUUUUUUCUCUUUCUUUUUUUGAUAAAUUAUCAAAAACGACAACCAGAAAAAGCAUUUGAAAGAGAGAGAGAGAGAGAGAGAGAGAGAGAGAGACUGACUAGCCAUUGAGGAUGGCAGGGGAAGAUUGAGGGACGCGAUUUAAGAGGACUCUGCAAACGUCCUCCGCCAUGAGGCUGCCGUACACGAACACUUUGUGAAGGCUCUGAGACUGAGCCAUCGCCACUGAGCUCAUUGCACUCAUCUCUCUCUCUCUAGACUGGUGACUCUCUCUCUCUCUCUACUAUUUCUUCCUGGAUUUUAUUAUUUUCUCUUGAAAUUCUUUUUGUAAGUUGUAACUAUACGACGUGUUGUUUGGUGGUCUCUUUUUGAGGCCAUUUCUUCUCCAAUUCGUUGGAAACGAAACAAUCACUACACGACACAUAUCUGAUGAUUUUUACAUUUUAUUUUAUUUUUUGUACUUUUUAAAUGCCUACCAGAAUAAUUACGAUUGCUUGAAUGAUUGCUGAUGAUGUUAUACAUGUUAUGAAGAAAAAUCUGAGCUUAAGUUUAUUUUUUCGAAUAUUUUGCAUUUGUUUAUCAGAAAUAAAAUAUAAUUUUCAAAAAUUGAAAUUUGUUCCGAGUGUCGAGUCAUACUGUAUAAAAAGUUAGAAUCUUGACAAGGAAUUGAGACAAAAGGAAACAUGCACAAGCCACAAUAAUUAGAAUCUAAGCAUUUGUAGAUUGAACCAAACAUACAACAACUAAAUCACAAAAGAUGAGCAAAUCUCCUAAGAUGGAGUUGAACACCCUAUUCCUCAUUGUAAACAAGAGUUUGGAGUUAAAGAAAAACUAAUAAACAGCUGCCAGACUCCUAUCAGUAGAGCAAGAUCCUCAUUGUAUGUUCAUAGGCUCAGGACUCGCGGUGUUCAAGAUAUCCAGCAAUGAAUUCUGAGGCUCCAACUCCUCGUGCCAGAGUGGAAGCUUGUCAGCAGGGUAGUAGUUUCGGGUCACUCCCUCAGAAUUUAUCUGCAAAAGCACACAAACAAAACUUAGCCAAUCUAUGAUCAUGUAUGGUGCAAACAAAAGUGCGAUAGGAUUGCUUAGUAAUGAUUAGAGUUGAGGGAAAGAAAAACUUACAACUACAGUGCGGACAACACCCCCACUGGCACCAUCUCGUGCAAUGGCGAGAGACACAGCUUUGACCACUAAUUGCUGCAAAAAUGCCACCAAAGAGCAGUUAACAACAAACUCAGAGAAACUUCUCAUAAAGAUAGCAUAACAAUCCCUUUUUCGAGGGUCAAAGCUCCCUCGAGAUUGUAGCAUUUAUCAAUGUAAAGUACCGUCCAAGUCAAGUUCAACGGUCUAGAACUUUCUAUGACAAAUUUGUUCCAAGGCAGUUACAAAACCUUUCUACCUGCAAACAUCAACAGAUACAUACCUCUGCUUCAUCUUUGGUCAUUCCUUCUUUCCAAGCUUGAUCGAAAAAUCCAUACAAGUAGCUGGACCCAGACCCUAUAAGACAAAAAGUAUGUUAAUCCCAAACCCCCAGAUGGGCAAAACUAUCGCCUGAACCUCCUUGUGAAGUAAAAUCACAUAAGAAAUUUUCCACAAAUAAAUUUCAAGUUGUAACCAAAACGGAUUGGAAAUCAAUCCUCGUCAUCUAUAGAUAAGUAGGAUAUGAUAUCUGAACAUAGCCUUUCUUUGGGCAGUGAAAACAAGUCGUUGAUCCCUCAAAUUCUAUUCAUUAACCACAAAGAUGAAUUCUUGGCAUGUACUUGGGGCGCAUCCAACAUUACCAACCAGUUGCAAACUACUAAAUCCAAUUUGAUGAUAAUCUAUAAAAUAUCAUAAAAUACUUCCAAUCCCAUUCCACUAAAGAUCCUAUUUCAACCAAACAAAAACUAGGAAGUUCUUCUUCGUACAAGCAAUGAAAUUUGCAUCCCAUAUAACAUACAGAAACGUGUAAAACGUGCACCAUAACCUAACCCCAAGGGUGAAACGAAGGUUUGACAAUUAAGUUAGAAAUACUCCCGCAUAGCAUACCUCCAAUGGUAAAGGGCAGCUCUAGCAGUGUGCCACCAAGAGGAAUUCCAUAAAUCUUACCGCCUUCGUACUUGUCCCACCCACCAACAAUCAACCCAGUUUCUAGCAUAUUCUGCCAUGUCCAAAACAUGAUGUUAAAAACACAAUCAUUUAUUUAUUAAACUACAAAUGAACUGAUACUAUGAUACCAUAAAUGAGAAACUCAAAAAACCCAACCUUGUUGCCAUAAGACAGUAGCCUGACGAGGUUGGCACAAACUUUGACAGUUGCAGGCUGCCCAAGCUGUAUGCUGUGCAAAACACAAUCAUAUAACAAACCCAUUAGAUACCCAACGUGAGCUAUGAAUCAUAAAAUAGGAAAAACAAGAGCAACAAAGAGGCAAAGACUGACGUGUGUUGAUGAAGGAAGUAGCGCACGUAGUCAGAAACAACCUGAGAAUCCGCAGCCUGCAAAUUGCAAAUGGGUAAAUGCUCAAAUGAUCGAAAAAUCAAGAAAAUGAAGAAAUUAAAUGAAAAUAGUAAAGUUUAUGAGAUUGUACCGAUCCAGAGCGACACACGUAGACAUUAUCGGUGAGCUGGGUGAUUUUAUCGGAGGCACGGUUGGCCACAUACACUCCUACACGAAUAAAAGAGUGAUUUCGAUGAGUGUUGAAUGCACAAAAGCUGAUUAGGGUUUUGGGGAAGGAAAGGGAAGAGAGAAUGAGGAGGCUCACCAGUGCUGGUUCGAGAGUCGGCACCGAGGACAACGCCGCCGUUGUAAGUGACGCCGAUGAUGGUGGUACCCAUGGAGUGAGGAGCGUUAAGAUCCAUAUCCGAAGCCAUUAACGAGAAAUGGGAAGGAAGGAAUGAGAAGGUUGGGUAUUUCAGAGGAAUUGAAUUUGCAGAGAGGAGCGAGAUAGAGGUUUUGUUUUUGGUUUGUAUUCGUUAAGCUUGGCUUUCUGCACAAGUUGUUUACUUUCUAAUGUUUUGUAGUUUUUGGGUCAUCUGGUCCAAAACAAAAAUUGCCAUGUCGUAUGAUCCAAUCCAAGUCGAUGUUUGGGUCCAAUGCUGGGCUUUCCUUUCUUUUUAAUUAUAAAAAGUGCUGGGUUUUUAUCAAUUAAAAAUGGGUCUAUUUAUUAUCACAUUGCCAAUUUAUUUAGUCCAUCUAUUUUCAAUUGUUGAAUUUGAUUUAUGUGUUAAAAUCGAGCACAUUGGCUAAAUGUCUCAAAACAAGGACUAAAUUGCCCAAACUGAAGAUAUAUUAACUUCUUCUUUUUUAAAAUACAAAUGAUAUUUUAUUUUUAUUUAAUUUUCUUGAAUUAAACUUAAUUUAUCUUUUAAAUUACAGGAAAAGGAGAAUUCGAAUUCGGAUGCAGAGUGGGUAACACAUCCACUAUAGUUAACUUGGCUAAGCUCAUAUAUACAUACAUCAACCAACAAGAAUUCUAUAGUAAGAGCUUUAUAUAUGAUCCUUAGGUAAUCCCCUAUCUCUUAACUAUUGUAUCAAACUAUUAUAUCAAAUUAAUUAACUUAAUUCAACAAUUAAAAUAUAAAACCUCAUUUAAGGGCUAUAAAUAACGACAUCACUACAGGAUGACUCCAUCAAGCAAAUUAGUUAAAAUGGUACAACAUGGGACCGUUUUUGGAUAUACCCUUUUUGUUUUGUCGACAAUGAGAUAUUGUAAAUUAAUCUACAAAGAGGGAACUUCAAACCCAACUGUACGAGGGUGGACAUAUUGCUCUGACCGAGCUUACCAAACUCUUUUAAUUUAAUUUAUUUUACAUGUGGAAAGACUCAUGUACCUAGAUUGAAUAAAGGGUCAAGACAUUUAUAAGGUCCCAAAAAAAUAAUUAGGAUAAGUUAUUUUUAAAAUUAGGUGGAAGUGAUAAUAGAGGUGGUAGAGAUUGAAUUUAAGAAUCGACUUUAGCGUCACUCAGAUAAAAUAAUAUUGUAAAAUUUCAAAUAUCUAUCAAAAGGGCAAAGCCCACUAUUGGGAGUGUUACAUCCCUCCAUCCUCACAUAUUCCACACAUACAAACUUAUCAAAGAUUAGAAAUUGGAAACAUUCUUUAAAUUGAAAUGACUGUAAACGUUACAUCCGACAUAGUUUUCAAAAAGGAUAAAAGAAUGGAAAAGAAGAGGUUAGCUAUCAUCCUCAUAUUCAUUCCUAACCAACCAAACCAUGUGUUUUUGCCGCACUCAAACCUAAUCUCUUCUACGCGGCUAGAAAGGGUGCCCCCUCUGCUGCUAAGCAGGCCGCUGAAAUAAGCUUACCAAAAACAAAGAAGAAAAAAAGACAUCUGUCUUCUCUUCUAGUGGGAAUUAAGCCAAAAGGAAAGGAAAGUAAAACUAGGGGUAGGGAUAUAUGGGUUAGAAGCACUCUCAGCACAACAUAGGCUCCGCAGUUUUUAUCAUCAAUCUUCUUCCUGUUAUCAUUGUCUUGUGUUCAAAUGUUACGAGUCCAUGGCGAUGGCUUCGGGAAGUGGAUGCAGUUGAAGGGCUUGGAUGUGGGACUUCAGUGGGAGGUGGGGUGGACCAGCCAUUUUCUUCUCCUUCAGAAUUCCAUUCCCCCCAGUUCCAAGUACCUUCCUCACCUCAUUUGCAAGCUCAAUCACAUAGUCAUCUUCAUGGUCUGUUCAUGUUAUAAAUUCUUCGAUUUAGUCACAUAUUUAAUGAAGAAUUAAGAAAAGCUUGUCAUGGUCUUCAUGCUGAAGGAUUUGUGGUACUGUAAGAAAAAGAUUGCUCACCAAUAUCAAACAUAGCCUUCUCCAAUAGAAAGAGAUAGUCUCUAUUGUUUCCGCAGGGCCCAAAUGCAGUGGCGAUUUGCCUGUAGACAAAUACUCGGUCAUCAGGGAGUGCCAUUGAGGGAAAAUAACUUUAUCGCACAAAUAAUUACAUCCACCAUCGCACUACCAAAACAAGAAAAGAAGAAUUGUAAUCUAUAUUACCUUGCCAUAUCCUCCAAUGGAGCAGGACCCAGAUAAUACUUGUUUGAUUCCUUGUCUGGAGUGGAUGUGAAACUGCAAUAUCAAGAACAGGUUAGGUUAGGAAAACAUCCAGAAACAAUUUUUGUAAACAAAUUUGUAAUGCGUUUUUGUUUCUUUCUUCUCUUACAUCAUGAAGCAAUUUUACAAAGGAUGAAUUUAAUGAGAUGCGGGAAUUGAUAAAUCUACAGCAAAAUGACUUACACAAUCACUCCUGUCAAGGAAGGCUCAGACUCAGAGAAGUCCCCUUCCUGUACGCCACAGAAAGCACAUGUUAUGACAAACAGUACAAAAAUAAUAAUUAAAAAUUCACAAAUACUAAGAAAGCUGGCAGUUCCAACUUUCGGGCAUGAAGGUAGAGUAAUAUUAAAACUAAUCUUACCUUAUAAAAGUUCACAAGGGUCUUUAAAUCAUAUUCACAUUCUCUCCUUUCCAAGUACUGCAAAUGAGAAGCAAAUCAAUGUAACAUUCCAAUUAGAUAAGACGUACAUAAAAUUUGCAACUCGUAGUAAAAGAGGAUAAGAAGUAUGUCUAUUAGAUAAGUAGGGUAUGACUGCCCAUGUCAAAUUUAUCUCAAGUGAACACUCUCAACAGAAAAAUAUAUCACAACAAUGAUACAUUUUGCUUUUGAAGAAGCAUACCUCCAUUGCCAGUUUUUCCCUUUCAGGCCCUCCGCGUACAGAAUAAGCAGCACCCCACUGUUGGAAGAAUUUGAAGGUAAGAAAGAAAGAACAUUUGAUAACAAAAGCUGAAGCAUUAUUCCGACGCUAUCAGAACCAACGAAUAUGAAUCAUGAAGGGUAAUAGUCUAAGAUGUUACUUACGCAAAUAGCUCCUUUUUGGUACUCCAAAGAGCAAGUCCGAGCAGGGUGCUCAGGGGUACCUCUGUGAUCGAUGCAUGCUUAACAAAUGGAAAAGAAAUGAACAGAAUCAGUGGCAAUAUAAUGACAUAAAAGGAAUUGAAAAGUAUAAGUUAUAACAAUAUGUACAAUUUCUUCCUGAAUACUAGUGAGACAUACCAACAUCAAAAACACGCCUGUAGUCCUUGAUGUAACCUAUCACUUUCUCGUCGUAUUCAAAACCAGGGUUCCACACAAGUGAACCAUAUCCAAAAACCCAAAAUACCAUGGUUGUGUAUAACUCCUGAGAAAGAACAAUGGGAAAAAGGUCACAAACUGUGAUAAAAUAGUCUAAAUAAGAACAUUUUAUAAUAAACACGAACUUUCUAUUACCAAGCGCGAUGAUGCCCUACUUUGUGAAAAUUUAUAUUUAAAAAUUAAAAAGCUUCAAGCUUUCUUCUUCUUUUAAGGAAAAAAAGUUGCCCAACUUUUCUAAAUCAGCCAAACUAAGUGCAAUGAUGCAGAUCAAAAGACUUGAUUAAAUAUCUUUAAAUCGUUGCUAAUGUGGAAAGUUUUGGGUUUUUCAUUCAAUAAAAUCUCAGAAAGACAAGGCAACCAUAAAUGCACUCGACAUUUUAGGAGCUAGAAAUUGACAUUCACAUUAAUUGGAAACUCAAACAAAGAAAACACGAAGUUCAAAAAUUUUCCAUUUUCCCCCUUUUUCUCAGCAUCCAAACAGAAGGUGCAGAUCACGACACAAAAUAAGAGUGGAAAAAGAGAAAACCACCGGCAUUGUUAUGCAACCAGAUAAAAUCGAAAUUUCACCCACCAAAAAAAAAAACAGAGGGAACGAGAGCUUACAAAGAAGAUGGCAGAAAUUUCCCGACAAAAAAAUGAGAGCAAGUGUUCGGAGAAGCCCCUGGUGAUCUGAUGGAGAAAGCGAGAAAUCGACGCUCUUUGAUUUUGCAAUGGCACGACGACAAAGAGAGAAACGAAAAGAGGGGAAGCUAAACGCGACUAGGGUUUAGCUUCAGAAUUAGGGCUUUUUCUUCUUCUUCGUUUGUUUCUCUCUCUCUCUCUCUGCUCUCUCUUCGCCUUCUCUUUAUUUGUUUUGGCUUCGUGUCGGUGUGAGGAGCCAGAGGCGAGAGCGCUUUUAUAGGCCUUCGAAGCAGAGGAAACAGAAGCCCGCGUAGCCUGGUGGAACCUGCUUGAGACAACUAGCUGAUGUAUGUGGCAUGAAUUUUGUAUCAUGUGCAUCUAUCACAUCAUGAUACAUGCCAAGUAGCUUUUUUUGGUGCAAAUUUUUAUUCUUAUUUCCUUUUUAUCAGCAUAAUUAUUUUUGUUAUAUUAUUGGAAUACUUUCCUUUUUUUACAACUAGAUAAUUUUGAGAACAAUCUUUAAAAAGAAAUUCCCAAAUUUUUAGCAUAAAUAUUUUUGUUCAAAAAAGUAUUAAUAAAAAUGAUAAUGUAAAAGAUUUGGUCUAGAAAAAAACACAUUGGAAUAUCUAGAUGGGAGUCAAAUCUAAGGGUGAGACAAAUUCUAGGUGUCAAAGUACCAAGUAUUUGAUCCAAGGGUAUAAGUCAAAUUUGUUGACUGAUUAAAGAAUUAAUAUGAUACAUAAAGUGGGUUUUGUUCCAUUAACUUUGCUUAUAGAAAGGUCAAUAAUGGCUUACUGAGAAUAGUUUGAAAGAGUAAAAGUUAUAGAUUUGUUAGCUUAUGUUUAAUUUAACAAAAUUCAAAGUUAACCAAUACUCAUUAUAUUUAUAUUUCGCCAUAUAUAGGUAUAAUUUUCAAGUUUCUUUUAAUAUUUUAGAAUGAAUAUUUUCCGAUACAUUGUUACGUAAAUGAAAGCACAAAUGUGGAAAUUCCACUACCACAAAAUCAUAUGGAAUUAUAAGAAUCAUUUGUUAUCAAUUCACAAUCUCAUCUCAUCUUAUCUCAUCUUUCUUAUCUUGCAUGAUGACAAAUAUGUUAACUUGUGUGGUUACAAUAUACUUCACAUUUUGUAAGGAAAAAGAAUAACAAUCAAAGAUUAGCUCAUAAAUAGAUUUUUUUUGCUAUAUAUUCUAAUUAUUUAAUUUAAAUUAAAACACAAUUUUAGAAGAAAUUAAAACUUUGAUUACUUCAAAUAAGUAAAACUUGAUUACACUAUUUAUUACCAAAAUUAUGUGUUAGUGGCAAAACUAGAUUCAUACCAUACAUGUCCAUCUCAACUAAUCAUCAUGUAUGUCCAUAUACAUCAUGAUGGUUGGAUUUGCUGAAAACGUAAAACUAAAAUUUCAAAAAGAACAAACUUGGCUAGGUUCAUUGAAUCUGGACAGGUUUUUUACAGCUGUGAUCGUUUUCCGCGUUGCAAUCUAAUUCAAAUUAGUGCUUUUAUUGCCAAACGGCGUGUACCGUGUCACUGAAGUCUACAAGACAGAGACCUAAUUUGGCUCAAUGAACCUGGACGCUAAUCCAGCACGAAACCAAACCCACAACUAGUCUUGGUAGGUUUAUAGGCAAACCCCGAAUCCAAGCACCCCGUGACUUUGAUUCCUUUGUCUCUUAGAUUUCGGUGAAGAUUCCAAAUUCCAAAUUCCAAAUGCCAAAUUCCAAAUUACAAGUUUCAAUUUCUCUCUCCAAAUUUGAGGAGGAAUUUGGUGCUUUCUUUGCAGGACGACAAGAAGGAGUGGAAGAUGAAAGGGAUUUCAAAUAUGGGAAAAUUAUCCAGAACCCCAACUCAAUGGAGCCAAACAAGCCACAUUUUGAGGAACUUUGUAGGGUUUCUAUCAAUGAGUGGAUAAUGGGUUAGAAAUGAUAGGAGAUUGGGAAGUUUUGAAGGGUUUUUGUCUAUGUUCGCAACUGUCUUUUUUUAUUUUAUUUGGACUGUAUAUUAUUAUCUGAAAAAUAUAGUAAGAAUUUCUUAUUGUAGAUUUUGAUGUGGACGUUAAAAUCCGGUGUGAAAUUUAUCGUUGUACUAAAUUGUCAGUUACAGUUAUAGUUGCGUGUAAAUGUGCGAAUAUAUAUAUGCGACUGCGUAUGUAUUGAGUAAUUUGGUACAAAAGAAGUUGGGUUGAAUAACUUUUUUUUUUUUUUUGUAAGUACCAUGAGGUGUUUGGGCUAGCUUGCUCGCACCUCGACUAAUCCUUAUUUCACAUAAUUGAGCAUGUCGUUGGCCACCAACUGUUGUGACUCGAACUAAGGAGCAAACUCAGCUGAACCUCAGAGCCUUACUCAAAUGACGGACAAACCACUGAGCCAGUUGAAUAACUUAUUUAAAUUAAACUAUUUCUAUGAUAUUGAAAUUAUAAUUGAAUAAUGUCAUCUAAAUGAAAUGGUUAAACCAUUUACACCUACUUUCUUUUUUUCUUUUUUUUUGGGGGUGAGUCGUGAUUGAUGAUGCCUACUUUUAUUUAUUAGAUAUAAGGGAUUACAGCAAUGAAUUCCCUAAAAUGUCAACUAUGAAUAAGGGAUUUAGGCAGCAGGCUAACAAACUCUGUAGGCAAUUUAAUAAAUUAAUCCAUAAAAUACCGUCCAAUUGAAAAGGUGGAGGCCUGGGUUAUAAUAGUAGAGAUUAUAUUUUAUGCACAUGUUACACACGGAACGCGUGCCCACCUUUCAUCCCCACAGUCCAUUUAGUCAACCUUUACCAGUAGAUUGCUGCCCUUUUUUGUCAUUUUACACAAUUUUUAAAUUAGGAAAAGGAGACUUUUAAAUAAAGACCGUAAGCUUUUCUAUGUCCAACUUGUGAGAAGUGGCAAAUUGAUAUGAAUGAAAGAUUAUUGACCAAUUCCUUAGUUGUAGUGAUUGUGAAAGGUUUGCUUUAGACGUUCUUUAUGCGUGUGAAACAAUUGUUAGUUGUUGAUUAUAUGUAUGAAUUUUAUUAUAAAUUUAUAUAUAUUAACAAUUAUUCAUAUGUACAUGAAUAUCUAUCAUUAACAUUUACCUCCAAAUUCAUAUAAUUUUACACUUCUUCUAAUUAACUUAUUACUUUAAACUCUUAAAAGAAAAAAAGAUAGUGUAUUUUACCAUUCUCAUUUAUCCGUCGACAAUCGAAACUAAUAAUUUAUAAUUUUCCUUACACACUCGCGGGUGUGGCUUGAGGUUCUCAUGGAUCAUCCACCUUUAAUUGACCCCUCAUAUGUACCAGUCUAGCUUCACCAUUACAUACAAAAAUUUACAACGAUAAAAGUCAUAUAACAUUUAUGCGUCCCGUGUCAAGAGACACAAGAGUUCUUUGGAGGUCUUUAUAUAAGACUUACUCUUGGAAAUAGAAUAGUGUGGAUUUACUGUGCAAGUGCCCAAUUGAGUGGCAUGUGGAUUUGGCCUAGUGCUAGGACAUUGAUUUAGAUAGUUGUAUCUUGGUGGAGCAAACACAUGCAAAACUACAAGCACUGAGUAUGGGUGAAAUUAUGUUUCAAGGACAUUGCAAUUCUACAAGAAGCCUAUAUAUGCAAGAACAGUCAGUUUUUAAUUUACUGUCAUAUUUAAUUUCAUUAUUCUAUUUAUUGUUUAAUUAAAUUAUUAGAAUAAUAUUGAUUGUUGUUUCCUCUAACAAGUUUCACUCGAGAGAACGAGUUAGAUCAAAGGCAAACAUUCCCACAAAAAAAGAAGAAGAAAAGAUUAAACUCUCACAUUGAUUUACUUUGAAAUUUCUUUGUCUUAAAUAUCCGCCUUGGAUAUGUUGACACUAGCCAAUUAAUCUAUAUAUAUAAAGCAAAAGGCAGAGAAUGGUAAAACAUUCAAAAUACUAGAAAAUGCCAUUGGUUAAUGCAAACAUUAAGAAUAGAAAUUGUCAAUUAUAUCAAUAAAGUAUAAACUAAUGCAACUAGGAGGGUAUUUUUUUUAUAAAAAAAUAAAAUUAAUAAAAGGUAUCGCCUUGAUAUAUAUAUAUAUAUAUAUUUUUAAAAAUAGUAUCGCCGCCCGACUAUACUCUCGGGUAUUUUUCAAAAUCGUAUCGCCGGGCGGCUAUACUCGGGUAUUUUGUUAUUUUUCAAACAAUAGUAUCGCCCCGCGGCUUUACUAAGGUUAAUUUUUUUUUUUUUUCAAAAAAGGGUAUAGCCGCCCGGCCAUACAUAUUUUGACACGUGAGUUUUUAAUAAAACGUAUAGCCGCCCGGCUAUACCGAGAAUUUUUUUUUAUUAUUUUUUUAAAAAAGUACAGUGGUGCUACUACGGUUUUUUAAAUAAUCGUAUAGCCGGGCGGCUAUACUGGUUUUCACACGUGGGCACAUGGCAGCUAGGCAGGUCCUCCCUUUUAAUAUUAUAAAUAGUAUAGCCGGGCGGCUAUACUCGAAAUUUUUUAUUUUUUUAAAAAAUGGCAUAGCCGUUCGGCUGUACUACUUUUUUUUUAUAAAAAAAAUAGUAUAGUUUCACACGUGGGCGCUAGGCUGGUAGUCUAUUUUUUUUUUCAAAAUCUAUACGCGGGAUUUUUUAAAUUUUUAAAUAGUACAGCCGCAUGGCUUUACUGGUUUUCACACUUGCCUCUUUAAAAAGAUAGUAUAGCCGAGCGGCUAUAAGCGGGAAUUUAUUUAUUUAUUUAUUAGAAAAUAGUAUAGCCGUGCGACAAUACUUGAGUAUUGUUUUUUAAUUUUUUUUUUUCCAAAAUGGUAUAGUCGCUCGGCUAUUUAUAUAUAUAUAUAUAUAUUGGGAUCUUUUCCUUUUUUUUUCUAAUUUUUUUUUUCUGAUAAGAGUAGUUUAGAUUAUCAUCCAUUAUUAUUAGGCUAUUACCCGAGUCUAUAUUGUCCUAUUUUGAUUUUUUCACUUUCUUAGAGUUAGUACACGUAUAAAGAAUUUAGUAUUUUUACGUUUAAUACUCGUAUUAUACACAUACGUAUAUAUUUUUAAUAAUACAUCUGCUUUCUGUACAUGUGUUAAAGACUCAGUAAAAUACAUGUUUUUUCAAAAGCAAAUAUAUAAUACUCGUAUUGUACACAUAUAUACAUAUUUUUCAUGUUUAAUACACGUAUUUUUUUAUAAAAAUUUCAAUAAUACACACAAAAUUCACAUAUUAUACACAUAAUUUUUACAUAUUAUUAGAAACAUGUUUUAGUUAAAAUUAAUCCCACAUUGAAACACUAGAGCUUAUGGAAUCCCAUUUGAAGUUUUUGGCAGGUGACUAGCGCUAUCAAGGUCCCAAAAAAACUGUCGUGAUUCAGUGAGACGUAGAAUUUUCGAGAAACCAAUAGCAACAUUUUAGACUUUUUCAUCUAAUUAACAUAAACAUGUGUAUCUGAAUAUAGAAAGAGUUAAAAACACAUGUUUAUGUUAUUCGAGCCCAAUCGUAACACCAACUUAAAAACAUUCCAAAUGUACAGAUUAAUUUGGGCUAAAACAAUAUCAACUGAAUUUGACUAGGCAUAUUUCGUAUGUUAAUUUAUUUAAAUUUAGAUUGUUCAUGUCACACGAUUUACAAAAUUCGAAUAAGAUACGAUAACACGAGUAUACGUGAAUGAAUGCAAAAUAAUAUAGGUUAUACCUAAUAUCCAAAAUAUUUAGCUUAACUAGUCCAAAAUAGUCACUUAAAUUAGGGCUUUUCAGUGAUGAGCAGAGCUUUGAGGCUUACAGAGGGUUCAGGCCAUCGAUCGCUCAAAAAGACUCUUGCGUAAGUCGACUGAACUCUUACCAUCACCAAGUUUCCGAAAAAAGAUGACAUUUUGAGCACAAAAUUGGAAAAUGAAAGUACAAGGAAGCCAAUCCGAGCUUGACCGAUCGCAGUGCGGUUCGAGCAGUAGGCGCAGCACGCGUUCGCAAGUAGCACCAGACUGGAAUUCAACAGACGAGCUCCUUCUGGUGAACGAGAUCGCUGCUGUGGAAGCCGAUUGUCUGAAAGCAUUGUCUUCAUUUCAGAAAUGGAAGAUCAUAUCUCAAAACUGCUCUGCUUUGGGCGUCCCGCGGACUUUGGAUCAGUAUCGCAGAAAAUGGGACGCUUUGUUUCUCCAGUACAAGAGUAUCAAGCAGUGGGAGUCAGCGUCUAGAGGCGGUGCUUCGUACUGGGUUUUGGAAAUUGGAAGGAGGAAGCAGAAGGGGUUGCCUGAGAAUUUUGAUAAUGAGUUGUUCAGAGCCAUUGAUAAUCUUGUGAGGGUUCGGGGGAACCAAUCGGAUACGGACCCAGAUAGUGAUCCAGAAGCUGAGAUUGAUGCUGAGGCUGAUGUGCCUGAUGUUGUUGCAGAGCCAGGUAUGAUUUUUCUCCAACCCCAAAUGGAAAUCUGUGUUGAUAUUCAAGUGCUGCAUUGUCAAAUUAGUUAUCAAUUGCCUUUGUGGUUUUUGCAUUUUUGGUUUCUUUUGCGCCAAUGAUUUUGUGUUGACAUCAUUGAAUGCUGAAUGUAUGUUUACAUUUUAAGCUCAUUAUUUGGAGGAAAAAGAAUAGGGAAGGUGAUAUUGAGCCUCCUUCAUAUAGCCUGAUGUUAUAUUGGGCACUAUUGAAACGGAUAGAGGAUUAUGAGUUUAUGAGCAUUAAAAUUUAGAGCAGAACAUAAUGUAAAUGUAAGACAUUACAAUUCAAGUAGUAAAUAAAACUGCAAAGUUUCUUGUUUAGUUUGCGUGUGAUUCUUGGAGGUGAAUGGUUAUGUUAUCUCCUUCAUUGAAACUUGGAUCAUAAAGGUAGAGUGUUGUUGAGCAUUAAUAUUUUUAAAAUAAGGUUAAGUUGUGACAUAUGACAGCUUAGAUAUGCACAAACGCUUACUAGUUAGUUCUCUUGUUUGCAAGCUUGAUUAUUCAAUUGCGGUAUGCGUACCAUUUCAAGAUGCAAUAAAUUAGUAGGGGAUGUUGUCGAAGGUUUAAGGUGGUUGAAUUUGCGAUGUGAAAACCAGUCAACUGCAUAAGUUUUGCUUACUUUUGAGUAAUGGGUGAGUAAGUGAAUUUUAGUUAUGGUUUAAUUGUUAUUUGUGCUUGAAGUCGUGAAAAAGCAUAACAAGCAUGUUAUUCUGUAAGCCUUAGUUCUAUGCUUCAUCACCAGUUAUGUUCUUAUAAUUGUCCUGUAUAUUAUUAGAGUCCAAGAGGAGAAGACGCCGAUCAACACAUCAGAAAAGCUGCUCAAUAGAAAAUUCAUUAGAAGAUGUAAGGUGGAAAAGCCUGAAGAAACCCCGGGUAGAAGAAAAACCUGAAGAAACCCAUGCAGAAGAAAAACCUCAAGAAACCCACGCAGAAGAAAAACCUGUGGGAAGCUGCUUAGAAGUAAUUCCUCAGAAGAGCCUGGCAGAACAGAAGUCUCAAAAAAGCUGUGCGAAGAAACAUAAAAAUAGUCAAAUAAAAGAGAAGGCUAUCAGCAUUGAAGAACAGGAGCAAAUUGCGGUUAUGCAAUUGCAUGAAAAUGUAGAACUAAUCCAGGCUAUUGUUAAUGAGAAUGCAGAUCAUGAGGCUGCCGCCGAUGUGAAAAGCACCGGGGACCCUCAAACUGAUCUUGUUAGACGCCAAGGAGACCAGGUUAUUGCAUGUCUGGGAGAUAUUGUGAAGACUCUUGACCAGCUCCGUCAGCUUGUCCAGGAAUGUGAAUAGUUUUCCUCUAACUUCCCCUCCCCCCUUCUCUAAUUUACUGAAUGUCAAUAUUUUAAUGUUUAACAUUUUGGUGUUAGGAUAUUUAUGGUAACGUUCUAAUGCAAUGUUGGAGGUAGCUUAUUUUGUGUUGUUUGCCUAUCGAAGACCAGUUUAGGUGUGUCUCUUUCAUGUUAUAGACUAGUCUCUUUAGUUGAAAGAACAAGGUAAGUUUGUCAUCCUAGAAAAGAGAAAGGACAGAUUAUCUUUGACAUGCAAGCUAGAGAAUCAGACUUUCAUUUAGUACAUAUUCACCGCUCCAUAAAUAUCCUUUCCUAUGGCUAGACACUUCUUAAUAGAUCUCCUCAAAUCAGGUGAACUUCUCAGUAUCCAAUAACGUGAUUAUGCGUAGGAGUAGCCACUUGUUCAUAUACAUCAACGGUUGACAGCCACUGUUACGACUUGUGAUUGUGAACAGGUUGAAGCAAACCUCUGGCAACAAUGCCAAAUUGUAGUUGUAUUGUUAAUGUGUUCUGAUUGCUGUGAUGUACAAUGUGCACAGGUGUGGUGUGGUGUCACGGUGUUGAACCUUUUAGGGGGUUCACGUGUGGGAGUUUGAGACCACUAGCAAGUAAUAAUUAUUUCCUGUUUCUGGCAAUGUACCCGUGUUUAUUAAUACCAUCUUCAACAACACCAUGUUGACCAACUAAAACACUCAAUAUUUCUGUUAUUUGUAUUUUCCAUAAUAUAUAUGUCAUUUGAUUCUUUAUAUACUAUUUUAAACAACGCAAGUACGAAUAUGAAAUCAUAUGGCAAAUGGAAAAGCACGCAAAGCUCUCUUUCAACAUAUCUGUAUUCUUCCCUCCAAUUGAAACACCUAGAAGGCUAGGGAGGCAAUGAGAGAACUCUCACGAGAAAAGGCAAGUCCUUUCUUUUUCUUUACCAACUUUUGGUUUUUUUAAUUUUUAUUUUUAUUUAACAAGUAAAAUAUAGGGGUUUCGCGCUAAAAUAGCCAUUUUUCACAAUUUUUUUUCUUUCUAUAAUAGCUCUUGCCCCAGUGUCUCGUUGUUAUCCCUACAGUUCCCUCUAAGUUGUACCUAUGAUGCCUAUUUAAUGCACCAUUUUGGGUUUAAUUGGCACCUCAUGUAUCUUAGAAGCAAAUGUGAGCAAAUGUGUUUGCAAAUGAGUGGUCCAAGUGGCAUUGAAGUGAGCUUCCAAUACCCCCGAAAAAAAAAAAAGGUUUAAUCCUCCAAAAGAAGAAAUUAGCAUGAAAAAUACAUAUUGCUCUUUGAAAUGAGUUCCCAUUUUUAUGAAACUUCCAUAAGGAAAUCCCAUAAAAUCUACAUCAAAGCAUAGCAUAUUACUCUUGUCCAAAGCCAAUCAAUUUCUGUCUCAUUCUUCCACCAUUGUUGCUUCCAUACCAACCUGCAGAAAAAAAAAAUAUCAAAAACUCCACUAAUUCCUUUGUAUCUGAUUUGCCUUAACCCCAACACUCCACAAAACCAAUCCAUGAACCCCUCCACUACUUCACCCAACACCAACAUCCAUGUCGACUUCCCUAACAGCCACCCAAAUGAAGACCAAAAUCAACCAAACACUCCCUUACUUCACCAAUGCUGUGAUGAGCUACGCAGCUUCAGAGUGAGCCUCAAAUGGUGGACACUAGACCACUCCUCAUGCCUUGGAAAAUUCAUAUCCUACUUCACCUUCAUUUUCCUAACCAUCCUAGUCCCCAUCCUAGCCGCCUUCUCUCUCAAAUCCCCAUCCGAAGACCCCAUCUCUUUCAACAAGCUUGUCCAACUUCCCCAGUCCGGCUUAGCCGCCAUUGGCUUCAUCACUCUGUCUGGCUUCUUCAGGAAGUAUGGCCUGAGACAACUCCUCUUCCUCGACGGUCUUGGAGAUGACACUUGUUUUGUUCGUCGGGGAUACACUCGUCAGCUCGAUAAGGCCUUCAAGUGCCUAGCUUACAUACUAUUGCCUUCCUUUUUCAUUGAGCUUGCACACAAGAUCAUAUUCUUCUGCACUGUCAAAAUCUCACUGCUCCAUAUUAGCUCAAGCGUCCCGCUCAAUUCCAUAAUGUUUGUUUUGGUUUUGGCUUCUUGGGUUUAUAGGACAGGGGUGUUCUUGCUGGUUUGUGUUCUGUUUCGGUUGACUUGCGAGCUCCAAAUACUUCGAUUUCAAGGACUGCACAAGCUAUUUGAGGGGCGCGAAUCCGAAUCCAGCGUCAUAUUCCAGGUACGUAUGAUUUGAAAUUUCAAUAAUAUCUUUGAUAAUAACAAUCUUUUUUCUUUGAUGCAACAUAUACAUUUGAGGCAAAACUUUCAUGUAAUCUCUUUCAAUUUUUCUGUAUUUUCAGACUGUUGAGUGGAUAUUUUUAACAAUAGUAAUCUUCACUUUGGUUUCAGGAACAUAUAAGGAUAAGAAAGCAAUUAUGGGUUACGAGCCACAGGUACCGAUUCUUCAUCAUCGGAUGCAUGUUUGUCGUCACUGUGAGCCAGUUUGGGGCCUUGUUGCUGGUUUUGGCAUCCAAAACAGAGAAGACUUUUCUCAACUCUGGUGAUCUUGUGGUUUGUUCUGUUGUUGAGCUUAGUGGUUUGUUCUUGUGCCUAAUGGAGGCAGCAAGAAUAACACACAGAGCUCAAGGAAUUUCAGCGAUUGCAACAAGAUGGCACAUGCUUUUGACUUGUCCAUCUGCUGCAUUAGAUCAGCAAUGCAAAAAACAGCAGAGCUCAGAGGCUGAUGGAUGUUGUGGAGACACUGAUUCAGAAUUUUCAUCGAACGUUUUGACUUCAGUUUCUCCACAGGAGCCUUCCUCAUUCCAAACCAGGCAAGCUCUAGGUCUGUCUGCUUUCUUCCUACAUUCCUUGAUAGCUUGGUUAGUAGAAGAAAAUUACUUAUAGCAGUACAAUACUACAAUUCAAGACCUACUUUCAAAUCAGAUACAAAGGCUUAAGGCAAACUUUGAAUAUCUCUAGUCACUCACUUGCAAACUAAAUUAACCACACAUAUCAAAUCAACUCGAGUGCUUUUGCAUAUGUGAAACUUCAACACUGUAUGGCACUGAUAUGGAUGCUUAUGUAUAGUUGUACGUGUCUGUGUGUGUGCGCAGUGGCAUACUUGGGGCACAACAGUGGAGGGAUCACGCUAUUCGGGUUUCCGCUUGAUCGGGGAUUGCUUCACACACUGUUUGCGUUUGAGUUCUCUCUGGUGCUGUGGGUGCUCAGCAAAGUGGUUGUCUUGUCUUAAGCACAACGUUACAAGAUUGACAAUGAAGCUGCCAGCAACAUUAUUCACAAUAAGAUUGCCAGGACAAACCUCUCUGUUCUCAUCGAAAUUCGAAUUGUUUAAACGUGUUUCUUGGACUGUUUAGUGAGGAUCAUUAAUAGAGAUCAGCUUCAAAGAUUGAACAAUAAUAUAUUGAAAUGUUUUCCCAAUGAAAAAGGACCAUAGUAGAUUAUUGACAUUAAAGUCGAACCCUACCAAGCAUCAAACAUAUUAGUACCAUGCAUCAAACAUAUUAGACUUACUAUAUCCAUAAACUUGGCUGAGCAAACAAUGAGCUUUGUCAUCAUUAACAAGAACAAAAGAGCAACCCGUUACCUGUUAAUGAUAUCAUUAAACCUAUAAAAACCCAAUUCCCCAUUUCGUUUCACCACACCCCACUUAAUCUAACACCAUUUCAAUCCCUCCAUUUUCUCCAUCAACCAAAAAACCCAACUCAUUUCUUAUCAAAUGGUUCGCAUUAACAAAGCCUAUGAUCUUAAUCACUGGCUUUUGGUGCUAUUUUUCUUAGCACAACUAUGUAUUUUUGUGUCAUCUUCUGACCCCUCAGAAAUCCAAACCCUAUUGAAAUUCAAGUCCUUUUUGUCCAAUGACACAGCUCUAGACAACUGGAACAACUCUACCAACCCCUGCAAUGGCACCACAAACAUUUGGGCAGGCUUGUACUGUGACAAAAAUGGCAAUGUGUACGGGUUGAAGUUGCAGAACAUGGGUCUCAUGGGCAUAAUUGAUAUCGACACCCUUUCGGGUUUGUCUGCCCUUCGAAGCAUAAGCAUCAUGAACAACAACUUUGAAGGCCCACUGCCUAGUGCGAACAAGAUUGGUGCACUCAUAGGAGUUUACUUGUCCAACAAUCAAUUCACUGGUGAAAUUCCAGAAAUUGCUUUUGAGGGCAUGAAUCAAUUGAAGAAUAUUUAUUUGGAUGGAAAUGAAUUCUCCGGGGAAAUACCAAGUUCUUUGGCUGCAUUGCCUAAACUUACAGUAUUGGAUCUCCAGGGAAACCAAUUCAGUGGGGAGAUACCAAAUUUCCCACAAGACCCAAAUGGAUGGAAGCAUUUCAAUGUAUCAAACAACCAGCUCGAGGGUCCUAUUCCGGCAAGCCUGAGCAAUUUAGAUGCAAGCGCCUUCGUGGGUAUGCAGGAAACAAUACUUUCAUUCAUUUUUAUGUUCUCUUUUCAAUUUUUGUUUUGGACUAAGUACGUUACUUUUUGAACAAUUAUGCAGGAAACAAAGGGUUGUGCGGAAAGCCACUUACCCCUUGCAAAUCCUCAAUGAAGUGGAUCAACUCUUUUUGAGAAGCUAGGAAAACUCGCACCAGCGUGCAUAUAUAGUAUAACAUUAUAGGACAACUUUUGAAUACAUGCAAUCAUCUGCAAAUCAUAUGUAACGCUUAAAUUGGGAUGCUUUCUACCCAAUAAAACAUAUCAUUGAAUUUGAGGACGGAUCACAGUAAUCGGAAUUUUUAUUUAUAUAUUUAGGUGAUGAAUAUAUCGAUUGCAAUUUUAAUAUUUCAUAUAGCUUAUGCAGAAUUUAUACGAUGACUACUAUGUUUGAGUUCAAUUAAAGAACCACAAAACUUAAAAAUUCCCUCGAUCAGUUUGAGCAUUAUGCCAUGACAACAUUAUACCUAUCAGAAAAACAACUACUACAUAUAAUUAUGAAAACACCAAACCAGGACCCCAGGUCAACGAUUCAGUUUAGACUUCUAUCAGCCUGUGUAGGUUUUGGACCAACUUCAGUCCUUUUUUUUCUUCUUCUGGACAUCAAAACUUCAGUCCUUAUUUUCAACCCGCAAUUCUGUGCAAAUGAUUAGAAAACAAAGAGGCAUCUCAUCAUUUCUCUAGGGUUGGUAUUUCUUGUAAAAUAAUAUCUUGCAUAUGUCCAAAUAGAAUGUGCCGGAAUAUUUAUUUUCCAGCCUUUGACAGCAGUUUCUCCUUCCACCCAUUCAAUCUCCUUCUAAGCCUCUCUUUUAUGUUUUUGAAUCAGUCUUUCCUUUCUUCUUCCAAUUACAGUUGGUAGACCCAGAUACUUUUCUUGUAAAAUAAUAUCUGCAUAUGCAGUAUCCAAAUCCAAAUAGAACGUGCCAAAAUAUUUAUUUGUUUUAAUAAAAUAAUAUCUGUGUUUUGUCUUAUAAAGUUUGAAUGGCUUCUAGUAUGGAUGUGUCUUGGACCCAAAAGCAUGGUUUAUUUGUUUCGGGGUCCUGUUUGACAUAACCCGCUUUCUCAGCGAGUUAACACAAACACGAAUUGUUAAGGCUCAAUUCGAACACUGAAAUUUUCAUGUCGUGUUAUUGAAUUGUGCAAAUGAUACUGCUUGCCUAUUUCUUUGGAAGGAGAUACUUCUCAUUCCUACAAAUUACGGUUUGACAUAUGUAUAAAUAUAAUUAAUAAAAAAACACAAAAAGAAGAUCUUUUACACACAUAUCAAACUGCAUAAAUGUAGGAGUUCCUACUUACAGAGAAAUGAGGUAAGUAAUUUCCUUUUCGAAAUGCAUAUCUACCGAAUCAAAUUACUUAUUUACUACUAGGGCUCUCUAAAUAGGUCCAACACAUAAGCUUAGAGCUUAUCACACAAUGAAAGCCUCAGCAAAUAUAAUUAAUUGAGGGCAGUAAAUUAAUACCAAGUAAUUAAGUGAAAGGGAUAUCCUUGCUAUCAUAAACAUUCGGCUGAGCCAACAAUGAAAUGCCACUUCACCAUCACCAUUAACAAGAACAGACCAGCAACUCAACAGCACACACCAAAGCUACAAAAUAUUAAACAAACAAUUUUGCCUAACAUCCAGGGAAUUAAAUCCAAUAUUUAAUCAUAAAUUAAUGCCGGCUCUCACCCAGCUCACCCCCCCAUAGGCAGGAAAAAAAAAAAAAAACUUUGCCAUUGUCGACCUUAUUUGUACCUUUCCAUCUUCCCCUAAUCUAAUUCUUUCACCGCACCCACCUAAUCUAACACCAUUUUCAAUCCCUCCAUUUUCUUCAUCAACCAAAAAAACCCAACUCAUUUCUUAUCAAAUGGUUCGCAUUAACAAAGCCUAUGAUCUUAAUCACUGGCUUUUGGUGCUAUUUUUCUUAGCACAACUAUGUAUUUUUGUGUCAUCUUCUGACCCCUCAGAAAUCCAAACCCUAUUGAAAUUCAAGUCCUUUUUGUCCAAUGACACAGCUCUAGACAACUGGAACAACUCCACCAACCCCUGCAAUGGCACCGCAAACAUUUGGGCAGGCUUGUACUGUGACAAAAAUGGCAAUGUGUACGGGUUGAAGUUGCAGAACAUGGGUCUCAUGGGCAUAAUUGAUAUCGACACCCUUUCGGGUUUGUCUGCCCUUCGAAGCAUAAGCAUCAUGAACAACAACUUUGAAGGUCCUCUGCCUAGUUUGAACAAGCUUGGUGCACUCAUAGGAGUUUACUUGUCCAACAAUCAAUUCACUGGUGAAAUGCAAGAUAAUGCCUUUGAGGGCAUGAGUUCUUUGAAGAAAAUUUAUUUGGAUGGCAAUGAAUUCUCUGGAAAAAUACCAAAGUCCCUGGCUGCAUUGAGCAAGCUUUCGGAAUUGGGUCUCCAGGGGAACCAGUUCAGUGGGAAGAUACCAAAUUUUGCGCAAAGUCCAAAUGGAUGGAAGUAUUUCAAUAUAUCAAACAACAGGUUUGAGGGUCGAAUACCUGCAAGCCUGAGCAAUUUAGAAGCAAGCGCUUUCACUGGUAAGUAAUUCAUUCAAGAAUCUCCUUGUUGUCCAUUUUUUGUUUUGAAUUUUCAUUCUGUUUUAUUUAAUCCACUACACAAUACAUGAUUUUGAUGUGUUUGGUUUUUGAUUGUUAUCUCGUGUGAAACAGUUGUUGAUUGUUGAUGUGUGUGAGUCUCACGAUAAAUUCACACAUACAUCAACGGUUGACAAUCGUCCAUGUGCGCGUGAACAACUGUCGUUAACAUUCAUCUUAAAACGCACACUAUUGUUUAUUUGAGUUUUAAAAAAGAAGUUUGGUCCGAAGGUCAUAUUAACUAAUGAAGUAUUGAAAUGUAUAUAAGGUAAAUGUAAUUCUAUGACUUUUAAUUCCAUAUUAAAAACAAAGUUUUGAAAGAAAAAAAAUAACAAAAGAAGAAAGAAAAUCAAAGAUAUUGUAAUCAAUUUAAAUCAAAGAAAUAUGAGAUCAUUGACAAAAAGAUUGAGACACGCAUCAUCAUUGAUACCAGAUCUUCUCAAACAUUUACUUUCUAUAUGAUGGUAUGGUAGCACGUCGGUCGAAUUGAAUUAUCUUAUUUUACAAGUUUUCUUUUAUUUUUCAAAUGGGUUUUCAUUUCUUAUUUUCUUGGGCCUAAUUAUGGGCCCUUUUUCUUGACCAAAUAGGUAACCUAGGCCUAUGUGGAAAGCCUCUGGCCCCAUGCAAGUCCUCAAAGAAAAAAAUCCUCCUCAUCAUAGCCAUCGUAGUUGUCUCAAUUGCUGCAAUACUGUGCACCAUUGUAGCAAUUCUCUUUAUACGACGUCGUAGUGCUAAAUCAAAGCAAGAAGCAAGAGCCCAGAAGAAGCUAAAAGCCCAACACCACACAGCUGCAACGGAGGUCCAGUUAACAGCUGAUGAAGACAACUACAAGAAGGCUGAGAAAGGAGGGGAGUUGUAUUUUGUGAGGAAGGACAGAGGGUUUGAGCUGGAAGAGUUGCUGAGGGCCCCAGCUGAGGUCUUGGGCAGUGGGAGUUUUGGGUCAUCUUACAAGGCAGGGCUCUUGAGUGGGUCCAUGGUUGUGAAGAGGUUUAGGCAAAUAAACCAAGUUGGGAAAGAGGACUUCUAUGAUCACAUGAGAAGGCUAGGGAGACUUUCACACCCUAAUUUGCUCCCACUUGUUGCUUUCUAUUAUAGGAAAGAAGAGAAGCUCUUGGUUCAUGAUUUUGUUGCCAAUGGAAGCUUGGCCAGUCAUCUCCAUGGUAUGCCCUUAUAUAGUAAUAUUUCAUCUAAUCACAUUAUGAAUCAUGCAUUUAAUUAACAGAAUUGAAUUAACAAUGUGAUUAGUAAAUAUGGUACACAUAAUCAGCCGAAUAUCGUUGUUGAUUGAUCACACAAACUCUCAGCCAGUUACAACUCAACAUCUAGUCACAUUGAUGAUCACAUCUUUCACACGUUAUAUCGAAUUAAUUUGAGUUGUUUGUGCAUUUUCAGUAAAGCGAGAACCUGGACAGCCAGGACUGGAUUGGCCAACUAGGUUGAUGAUCAUCAAAGGAGUAUCAAGGGGCUUAGGCUACCUAUACAAAGAGUUCCCCGGCCUAACAGUACCCCAUGGCCACCUCAAGUCCUCCAAUGUCCUCCUCGACCACAACUUCAACCCCCUCAUAGCAGAAUAUGCCCUAAUACCAGUGAUCAACAGAGACCAUGCCCAAAAGUUCAUGGUGGCCUACAAGUCCCCAGAGUUCUCCCACAUGGAACAAACCUCGAAAAAGACCGAUGUGUGGAGCCUGGGCAUACUCAUCUUUGAAAUGCUGACAGGAAAAUUCCCAGCAAACUAUUUGCAGCAGGGCAAGAGGGCAAAUGCAGACCUAGCAGCUUGGGUGAACUCAGUGGUGAGAGAAGAGUGGACAGGAGAAGUGUUUGAUAAGAACAUGAAAGGGACCAAGAAUGGGGAGGGGGAGAUGCUGAAGCUUUUAAAGAUUGGGAUGUGUUGCUGUGAGAGCAGUGUGGAGGGAAGAUGGGAUUGGAGAGAAGUUGUAGACAAGAUUGAAGAGUUGAAGGAGAGGGACAGUGAGGAAGAAUAUUCUUCUUAUGCUAGUGAUGGGGAUAUGGGCUCUUCUAGGGCAAUGACUGAUGAUGAUUUCUCUUUCUCAGUUAAUGCUUGAGUUUGGGGCUUGGCUUGGGAGGGGGGGAUACUAAAUAUAUGUUGUAUAAUCAAGUUAAUUUAGGAGGGUUUGAAUGCUUUUGCACUAUGUGUUUUUUGGUAAAUACAUUUGCACCAUAUAUAUAUAUAUAUAUAUGUUGCUAAUUUAAGGCACACAAUAAGUAACAAUGGCCGAAAGGAGGAGGAAAAACGAGUUCAAUCCGUCCCAAAUUUGUUGCUAAUGGAAAUUUUUCACACCCCUUUUUUUUCCUUGAAAGGUUUGUUUUUGAACGGUUUAUUUGAGUUUUUAAUGUAUGAUUGCGUGACAUUGUAAUUUUUUUUGCUGUUUAUCUAUCACAACGAUCUAUUUUGAAUUUGAGCAAUAAUCUUAUGAAUGUGAAUUAUGUAUGUUGUAAAUUUUAUUUAUUAAUUUAUAAUGAAGUUGUUUUGGGGUUUAUAGUUCUCGAGUUAUUAAAUUCUAUAGUUACAAUGAAGCUUUUUCAUCUCCCGAAACCAAGUCUUUAAGACUUGUUUAGAACAUAGAGGUAUUAUUGAAAAAUACAUAUGUACAUGUAUAAUACAUUAUUAAAUGUGAAAGUGCUAAAUUGUUUAUACGGGUAAUAACUCUGGAAAAGUAAAAAAUCAAAAGAGGAAAAUAGAGACUCAAGUAAUGGCCUAAUAGUAAUGGAUAAUGCUUUAAACUACUCUUAUCGAUACCGAAAAUCGGGAGGAAAAAUUUUAAAGAAAAAAAGGAUCCCAUUUUAUAUAUAAAACGUAUAGCGGUGCGGCUAUACUGUUUAUUAAAUAAAAACCCAGUAGGGCCGUGCGGCUAUACUAUUUUUAAAAAUUUUAAAAAAAAUCGAGUACUGCCACCCGGCUAAAUUAUUUAUAAAAAAAUAAAAGAGGACCCGCCCAGCAAUCGUGUAGAAUUACAUAUAGCCGGUGGCAAUACUAUUUUUAGAAAUAUUAAUAAAACCGAGUACAGCCGGGCGGCUAUACUAUUUUUAAAAAAAAUUUAAAAAAGGUAUAGCCGACCGGCUAUACUAUUUAUAUAUAUAAACCUAGCUCUCGGGUGUCACGUGUCAAAACAGUAAAGCCGCCCGGCUAUACUAUAUUUUUUUAUAAAAAAAAUAGGUAAGUAUAGCCGCACGGCCAUACGAUUUCUAAAAAAAUUAGAAACAAUCGAGUAUAGCCGUGGGGCUAUACUAUUUGGUAGGGUUUGAAUGCUUUUGCACUGUUUUUUUUAGUAAAUACAUUUGCACCAUAUAUAUAUAUAUAUAUAUAUAUAGCUAAUUUAAGGCACACAAUAAGUAACAAUGGCCAAAAGGAGGAGGAAAAACAAUCCCUCCCAAAUUUGUUGCUAGUGGAAAUUUUUUAGGGUAAUAGGAGGAUUUGCAUGCUUUUGCACUCCAUAUACAUAUUGCUAAUUUGAGGCACAAUAAGUAAUAAUGGCCAAAGGAGGAAAAACCGCGGAAAAUAAAAAAGGAAUUAUUCCGCUGCCGGGAUUCGAACCCGGUUUGAUAACCCAAUCCAAGGUAUUGUGCUACAGCGGAUUUGUUGAAAUUGAUUGGAGAAACAAUUACUAUAAACAAUUAAAGGUUGCUGGAGUUUCUCUCUUACCAGUAUUACCCGAAUUUUAGCAAAUACGUGUCAAGAUGGUCACUAUUUUUUUCUCCAACAAAACCACAAACAAACAAAAGACAUAGCCUGCUGCAAUAAUAUUCAUGCAAAUACCAAUUCGUUUGAGGGUUAUGGACUGUUUGCUUUUAUUUGUGUCUCUAAAAAAAAAUUAUGAUUUAUUGGUAAAUACAUUUGCAUUAUAUACAUAUAUGUUGCUAAUUUGAGGCACACAAUAAAUAACAAUCGCCAAAGAAGGAAGAAAAUUUUGGCAAAAAAAAAAAAAAAAGGAGGAAGAAAAAAAUAGCGCAUGGAAAUUCUUUACAGUCUUUAUCUUAAAAAAUAGCACCUGAAGUUUUCUAAUGGCUGAAGAGGGAAAAAAAUAAAAGCGUAUUCCACUGCCGGGAUUCAAACCGGGAUUGUAUUCUCAAUCCAAUUUAUUGGGCUACAGUGGAUGUGUUGAUAUUUAGUCAAGAAACAAUUGAUAUAAAUGAUAAAAAAAAUUCCAAGGGUCGAAUAAGUAUAGCCACGCAGCUAUACUAUUUUUAAGAAAUAUUAAUAAAACCGAGUAUGGCCACGCGGCUAUAUUAUGUUCUAACACAAUAAAGAGGAACCGCCCAGCGAUUAGGUGCCCACGUGUCAAAAUAAGUACAGCCGCUCAGCUAUAUUAUUUUUUUUUAAAAGCCAGCGAUUAGAAAUAAGGAUAGCCGCGGCGGCGAUACUAUUUUUUAAAAAGCUUUUGGAAACCGGGUAUAGCCGCGCAGUUAUACUAUAUUAAAAAACAACAUCUUAACGCCUUCGCGCCACGUGUCAAAAAGGUAAAGUCACGCGGCUAUACUAUUUUUGAAAAAAAUAAAGGAAACCGAGUAUAGCCGUGCAGCUAUACUAUUUUUAGCAAAUAUCACCCUAAUUUUUGGAUGUAGAAUCAAUGAAAAGGGAUUUUGUAAAAAUAAAUGGAAACUUCAUAGUGUAUUCGUGUAAUUUUUAAAACCUCAAAGAAUUUUGUGAAAACACCUAAAACCUCAAGGGGUGUUGGUAUAAAUAACUCCAAAUUCAUAUCUGGUCAGUUUGGGCACAAAUGUCUUUGUUUGGUAUGGGGUCUGUUUCAAGUACUAAUAAUUUGGUUAGCUGGAUAAAAAAACAAUUGGCAUAAUAUCUCUCCUUCACAAUUAAUAAAUACCUUUAUUGUUUGUUGGAAAAUUUGGGACCAGAGAAAUCGUUUUAUUUUUCAAAAUAAAUCACCGCAAAUCCAUGAAGUUAUUUAUCAUAUUGAAUUUUCUUACAUAAUUAUUGGCAAGCUAAUCAUACUACUUUUAAGAAAUACUCAGAUGUAAUGUUUUUCAGUCUUCCAAAAAACCUAUUUGCUUGAGGAUAAGGACUCUCCAACAAAAGGAAAAAAAAUACAUGCUGCAAUAAUAUUGAAUAAUCAUGAGAUACCAAUUCUUUUGAGGGUUAUGUGCUGUUUGCUUUUAGAUCCACUCCAAUUUGUUAUAAAAUUGGAGAAUUGAGGAGGAAAUUGAGAGAGAGAGAAAGGAAUAGAAAUCUGAAUUCUUGUUGAAUUCUUUAUUUGCAUUUCUCAUUCAUCUCAGAUUGUGUAAUUUCUAUCUAAGGGAAGUCCAAUUUAUAGACAUUAGGGGAGGGGCAUUUUGGGGACUCCAGACUCUACUUUUACAACACUCCCCCUUGGAGACCACAAAUGAUACAGAAUAUGUCUCGUUAAAAACCUUGCCAGUAAAAACCCAGUGGGACAAAAACUGGUCGAAGGGAAAAAGAGUACAUAACCAUGUGUAACAUAAAAUUCUAAGUAUAUUGGCGCGGGUGCGACACUGCCUCGUUAAAACCUUGCCAGGAAAAACCCAGUGGGAUAAAAACCUGGACGAAGGAAAAAGAGUACAGUAUUUGAAGAUCUUUAUUGAUAGCGCGCUCCCCCUGAAAAAUUUAGGAUUAGCUUUUGUCCAGUAAGCGAUCAUAAAAAUUUUCAUAGUAUACCCUAAACCCUUGAGCGACACUGCCUCAUUAAAACCUUACCAGGAAAAACCCAAUGGGAUAAAAACCUGGAUGAAGGAAAAAGAGUACAGUGUGAGCUGAGCUCUAUCUGGUCUAGUAUACUUCCGGAAAAUCAUUAAAGUGUCCAACGGAUAAUCCUCAUAAAAAUGCUUCAAUACUUUAGUAUGAGCAAGAAUCUCGUUGGUAUAAUGCUCGAUCGAGACAAAUAUUUCAUGAAUUCUGCAGAAUCUUUAAUGUGUUGCAAUCACAUCAAUGUACUCACUGAGGUAAUUUAUGCAUAUCAAUAUUGAGUACAAAUUUUGUGCUUCAAGCACAUGUCCUUUAGGGACUUUCUUUAUGCAAUGUAAAUCCUCUCAACGGAUUUUUGUCUAAAAGGGAUUAAACUUUAUGACACAUUAUAUAGCUUUAACCCAGCUAUUUAUACAUCUUUAGGGAAUCACUUCAGGUGAUAUGCUCUGUGCAUUUAAUAACCCUUAAAGAUAAUAUGUUGGUCUCCGUAAUUGUGUAAUAAGGGGGGCACAAUUGAAUCUGUAAAUAUGGAGAAAACCCAACAUUCCUUGUUUCUGCCAGAAACAUUGUGUCAUACAAAGUAGGUAUAUUCCCUUUUAUUCCGAAUACCCAAGUAUAACUUUCAGUAUUGACAAAUUUGGGGUUCGUACUGUGGGUUUGUUCUUUCACGUUCAUUCUCAUUUAUAAUGGAAUUACCUCGUUCCAUUGUGGCCAAUAAUAUUGUCGACAUUUAAUAAUUGAACGUGGUUCCAAUCAACACAGCCCAUUGAUGAUUUGAGUAGCUACUCCAAAAUCAAAAAUUGUCAUUCAUCAAUUCAUGAUCUCACCAUUCUCAUUUGCAUGCGCAUACAUCAAUUAUAAGCAUUUCUUUGCUUUUGGGUACCCAAGCCACUUCAGAGGGCUUUUAUUAUGUGAGAAUGUGGAUUAUAACCUCCAAUGGAGCGUUAUUUUAUAGUAGGGCGUGGAUAAUCUCCAUUUAGGGAGUUGGAACAUUUAGAACCCAUAUAUCUGUCAUGCUGCAGGCAUGCCACAGAUUAAUACAUACAUGUCAAUUAAUUUCUGGGACUUUAACCCAUAUUAUGGGACUUUAACCCAUAUAAUUUGCUACGCAUUAGGCGUGCAUAAUAUCAAUAUUGACAUGUCAAAGGAUUGUCCUUUCGGGACUUCAAUCCAUAUCAUUUGCUACGCAACAGGCGUGCACCCAUAUAUCUGUCAUGCUGCAGGUAUGCCACAGAUUAAUACAUACAUGUCAAUUAAUUUCUGGGACUUUAACCCAUAUUAUGUGACUUUAACCCAUAUAAUUUGCUACGCAUUAGGCGUGCAUAAUAUCAAUAUUGACAUGUCAAAGGAUUGUCCUUUCGGGACUUCAAUCCAUAUCAUUUGCUACGCAACAGGCGUGCAUAAUAUUGAUCACUGCUAUACCCAUAUUCUGUUCUUAUGAGACUUUAAUCUGUGGCAGUGUAUUAUCAAUGUAUCCAACUUGCAAUCUGUAAAAUUUGCAUUUAUAAUUCAUGGAUACAUACAAGCCAUUCUUUUGGAAUGGACUUAUCUUCCCAUUUGGUUACCUUUCAAGAUAAAAUAUCAAAUAAGUAUAUAAGCAAAAAUAACACAAGUAUUGCUUACAUCCUUAAGUGGGAGAAACUUUUCUCAAGUAUCAUUCAAGCUUGUAUCGGCCCAGUAAAUGUAGCGCUUGAUGAUCUAGUUAUAUCCUGCAAUAGUGAAAUCACAACUCCUUUCUCUGUCAAAAACAAAUAAUCCUCAGAGAGUUACAGAUAGAGAAAAAAUGCAAAAAGAGAAGGUAAGCAAUCAGGGAAGGAAGCUGGUGGGAGCAAACAACAAGCUCUCAUAUCUCCUAGUCUAGAAGGAUUUCCGGAGAUUAGAGCAUAAGAUCGCCUUCACAGUUUCCUGAUGUAGCGGAAACGUGAUCAGGGAUAGUCUCGCUUCCUGAAUUGAUGAUCAGAGAUAGUCUUGCUUCUCGGGCAUAUUAAGUGCUCACUGAUAAGGAAAAUAAGUAGAUAUUGCAUCACUGCGUGCUCACUGAUAAGAAAAACAAGUAGAUAUCGCAUCACUAGGUAUGGAGAAAACUGGAUGUCUUCUGCAAAGAAAAUUUCGUUAGUAACACAUUUAUACACAAAUAAGAUGAAUAGGUAAAAUCGGUGAAUUUCAAAUUAACCAUAGGAAAAUUGCGAGAUUCUCGGGGUACUUUUGAAAAAGUAGCUCCGUGAAAUCCGUAAAGCAAGAUCGGCUUUUGAUGAAAAUAAUACUUGAAAACGCCGAAAGUGCCGACAAACAUUUAAUGGAGGCCACGUGAAGUUUUUAGAAUCUGGGAAAGAAAAAGAUAAUAUGGGGAUCUGAGAUAAUAUUGGGAUCCUGGAAACUGUAGCCAUAUUUCCUCCUAUAGAUAUGGCCUUUGCAAAACUUGAUUGGAGCAACUGCGUUUCAACUUGCUCCUUUCCUUUUAUAAUAAUUGCGCACAUUCUUAAAAUUUGCACCUGUGGUUUUUACGUCUUUUCAAAAUGACGGUUUGGAACCUUGUGCCUUAUAGGUUCAAAUAACCACAUCGACUGUCCCAAAUUUCAUAUUUCAACGUAUGGAAGCCCGGAACUUUUGGCAUGGGCUAAACAUAAACUCAGAAUUUAUUUGCCCUUUUCAAAAUGGACAUGAAAUAUGAAUUGAGUAAAAGCCACGCUAAUAUCUCAUAUAUUUGGGUUCAUGAGCUUCCGGCCCAAAUAUAACAAAAUAUGUAAGGAGCCUCAAUUCAUCAUUCUCUUAUGCCAAAGAGAUAUGUGGCGUACCACAAUUUGCAAUAAUACCUCAAGGGUUGUCCAUUUAAUUGUUGGAACUUCAGGUUCUCAACACUGUUAGAUUUUGAACUUCUGGCCAAAAUCACAUAUUCUCAUGGUAUGGACAUUCAAUCCCCUUAGAUUUUGAACUUCGGGCCAAAAUCGGGCCAAAAUCACAUAUUCUCAUGGUAUGGACAUUCAAUCCCUUUAGAUUUUGAACUUCGGGCCAAAAUCACAUAUUCUCAUGGUAUGGACAUUUUUACAAUUUUCUGUACAUAUUUCUGGACUUCAAGCCCUUACAUAAUUGUCCAUAUUUUGAGGAACUUCUGGCAUCUCAUUUAAUUGCUCAUCCAUGAGUUUAAGGAACUGCAGGUUCCAGUACAUUUGCCAGUACAGUUAUCAUCAAUGUGUACGGCAUUAUUCAUGUGUACAGUACAUUUGCCAGUACAGUUAUCACCCAUGUGUACGGCAUUAUGAAACAAUACGGUACUGUUACAUCAUUAAGGAACUCCAGGUCCUUAUUUACAUGUCAGGGAUCAAGGACCCUCAAGUCCGAUCACAUGUUUACAAAUAUAGUACCGGAGAGACUGCCAGCUCUCAUAUUAACAUCAUCAUCAAGGAUCUUCAAGUCCUGAUGUAAUUGUAUGAUGAGGAUCAAGGAACUUCUGGUUCUGAUCUGCUUACUGUAAAAACUCAUCAUACAACACAUUUAAUCCAUAAAAUAAAUUGCUGGUAAAUAAAUUACUGGUAUGGGCGAUAAACCCGCACCAUACAUUUAAAUAAUAGUAAAGGCGUGGACGAUAAACCCGCACCACCCUUUUAAAUAAAUGUAACUGUGCGGUAAUUUAAAUUCAUAAAUUAAACGUGCGUGUAUGGGCACUAAUUCUGCUCCAUGAAAUUAAAUGUGCAGUAAAGUAAAUUUAUAAAGUAUGAGGGUCGAUUCCUCAUCAUACUUUAAGUAAAAGUAAAUUUGCGAUAAAGUAAACGCAAUUAUUGGUGGGUUCUCAUCAACACCACGAUCAAAUAGUAUGAUAUUAUAUUAAAUCAUUUUAUAAAGUAGAAGUCAUAUUUACCCCGACCGAAGUGCACGUUAAGAUUCCAAAACCAAGAGACCAAGUGGGUGGCUGUCAAUCAGUAAAGCCUAGCAAUUCUUUAGUGUGCAUGCGUAAUUUCGAUAGCGGCACAAUCAAUGGGGCUUUAAAGAAAACUUCAAAACUUAAGCCUGAAGCAAGUUGGCCAGCACCAAUAAUGCCGGCCACAAUGCAAAAAGCGCUUUUUGUUGACAGAUGGGGUGAAGUGACGUAAAAGAGUUUGAGUUGAGUGCUCCACCCGUUGCUUCCUCCCUCUUUUGGUUUUUUUUUUUCCUCUUCCUGUAAAGCAAAAGCAAUUAAGCAGCCUUUUUUUCUUCUUCAUUUUUUUUUUUUUUUUUUUUUUUUUUUUUUUUUUUUGCUCUGUGGUGCUAAAUUGAUUGAGAUGUGUGGAUCUGCUGCUUCCAUUUGCGUCUGCAUAUCUGGAAGAGAAAAUCAUGAAGUUUUGGGUAGCUAGGGUAGGAUAGGGCCUAGGGGUCGCCAUCCCAAAGUUGGUGGAGGGACUUGUAAGGUCCAAGCUCGUAAACAAAGAAGUCUCCUGCAUACAACCUGCGCUGGGGAAUUUGGUUGAUCUUCUUCAUUUCAUCUUCACCUAAUUCCCAAUAGAAUAUUUUAAGGUUCUGCUUCAUCCUCUCCUUGUUGAAGCUCCUUGCUGGAUGAUGGAUCUCAGUAUGAUCUGUGGCAGAGUCUUCCCUUUGGCAGCAGCGGGGUCCUCAAUAAUGGUAUAAUAAUCUAUCCCGGUAUUGGUAGCCGAGGAGGAAGCUCCAUAAACUCCCAAAGGGAGAAAACGCACUAACAUACUUCAGACCCAGCUUCCUUCUCAUGAAUAUACAUACUUCAAAUACUGAAAUAUUUGGAGACCAUGAGGCCAGGACAAAUGAACCGGGGGCUUGCUGCUCUUCUUGAUAUAUUUUAUGACAUUUUGGCCAUCUUGCAGGGUUGUGGGUGUGAUUAGCAAAACCGCAAGGGGGAAGAAGAUGGAGAUCAAUUGCUUAAGAACACCCAUUUGGUGUUGUUGUGCCUCUGAGACACAAAACAAAGAAGAGACAGAGAGAAGAAACCAGAAGCAGAGAAAAAUCAGAUAAUUCAGCUGGUAUUUUUGAAAGAGAAUUCGUGCUGAUAACGUGUUAUAAAACUGGAGAAUUGAGGAGGAAAUUGAGAGAGAGAGAAAGGAAUAGAAAUCUGAAUUCUUGUUGAAUUCUUUAUUUGCAUUUCUCAUUCAUCUCAGAUUGUGUAAUUUCUAUCUAAGGGAAGUCCAAUUUAUAGACAUUAGGGGAGGGGCAUUUUGGGGACUCCAGACUCUACUUUUACAACACAAUUUGAUUUAUUUUGUUUUUGAAAAAAAUGUAACUUCCUGAUGAAGGUGGUAUUGGAAAAGUGGAAUUAAAAUAGUAGCAAUUUAUUUCACAAUCUACUUUCUUCUAAUCUUGCUUAAUCAUUUAAUCACACCCAUUUAUUUUACAUAUAUAGAAGCAAUUUAUCUCACAAUCUACUUUUUUCCACUGAUCUGCAAGUUAAGACAUUUUUUCACCGGACUAUUCCUAGAAAAACCUCAAAAUGUUAUAAAACUAGAAUAAUCAGAGGAUGAGAAGUACCACUGUAAUAUUGGGAGUGAAAUUAUAUUUCUCUUUGUGGUAUUUACACUGACAGAAUUUCUCCUCAGAUAGACUCCACUCUUUCUCUUCUCUCUGACUCUCACUCUUUCUCUUCUCUCUUUCGUAUGUUUACAAGCAAAUAUAAUGUCUAUUUAUAGGCAAAGCAAAUGGCCUUUAAGAGAGACAUAAUAAUUUCUUCCCAACAUCAUUAUCUCAUCUUUUGACUAAUACCCUCUAGUUAUAUCUCCAUCUUUUGACUAAUGCCCUAUAGCUUUAUCUAUGUGGACUUCAUUUCUUUAUAACACAAAACAAUUCUAUAUUUAUUUUCUUUUUUCGGGUUAAGCAAUUUGAAUUUGAAUUUAUUUUUUCUUUUGAGAAGACCUUUUUCUUUGGAUAAGUUUGUGGGGCAUAUGGAGCCCCAUACGACAAGGCCACUUUUUUAGAAUUAUUUAUACUUUCAUUUCCUAAAAAGUAAAAAACGACGGGUUUAAUGACCCACCGGUGGACCUAUCAUAUCCCCUCCCUCCAUCUCUCUGCACGCGCAGUUUCUGUUUUGGUUUCGCUUCACUACGCCUUUGGUGUCUGCUAGGGUUUAAGGAACGAAAGUUUCAUUUCAAUGGCUUGGUGGGAAGGCUUCGAUGAAAUCCGUCUUCUCAUCGCAGCAGGUAAAUUUCUGUUCCGAUUUAUCGUUCCUCAUUUUCAGUUAAUCCUUUAUUCUCUCCAUCUCUAAACCCUAAACGAAAAAUCUACAGAUACUGCUGAAACUGGAAACGACGUCGGACAAUUGCUUUCGCUUCGGCAUCCCAAGUCCGGUAUUGCUCAAUGCAUGUAUUUGAUUUCUUGAGAUUUAUGAGAAUUUGAGAUUAGGGCAUCUUUCACUGUUAUUCACUUACAUCUUUCACUGUUAUUCACUUACUUUCUUUGACAGGAAACUCAAUGUGCUGUCUUUUAGUUAAUGGAGUUCUUCAGGAGCUUAAUUGGUUCAAGCAAUCCUACACUUCUUGGUUUCUGGGUGACUAUGUUGCUGAAGGUGGUACCCUGCUUCAUUUUAUUUCAUUUUUUUUUUUAAAUUUUGCUGGAUUAUUCUUAUUUUUGCCUAACUUAUGUUGCAAUUCCAUAUUUAGAUGGUGGGUUAUAUACUGCCACUCCAGUUGAUCCUGUUUUCAUUUUGUUGCCCAUUUUUGAAGAAGCUAGAAUGAAGGUACUUUUAUGGUGCUUAAUCCCACUGUUCCUUGACUUUUUGUUUUUUUUUUUUAAUCUUAGUGGUAACUACAUUCCUUGUUAAAAAUGCAGAAGGAGGACGAUCCGGGGAAGUUCAGGCUUGUAGAUGAGAUAAUCUUUGUUGAAGGCUAUCCCGGAUAUCAGAAACUAUUGUCCAUUGCGGAGAAUUUUAUGCAAGUAGUUUGUGAAAUCAAAGGUGGCACACUACCUAUGCACUAGUAAUUCAAAUUUUAGGUAGAAGUUUGCAAACCAACCAAUUAACUUGUACUGUAUCAUGUUCACAUCUUGCAUUGGUGGUGAAGAAAACUAGAGAAGUCUAAUUUGGCGUUGAUUGUUAGUCGAUACUAAUGUCACACAAUCAAGGGAUUUGGAUACACUUUCACCGUUGACUUCAGAAACAUUUCUAAUGUUCGAGAGAUUUGAAUCCUGAAACAUAAUCUCUGUUACUGGAAUGGAAAUUGACAGCUUUGUCUAGUAUCUAGUGGUUAAUUAUUAUCUUUUUUGAGGUCCUUAAAAGACUAUGUAUGUCUGAACUCCAAUAUGCUUGUUUAAUUCAUGUUGCCAAUUCAAAUAAUUUGAACUUUUACAAUAUUAGUGUCAACAAUUAUAUUGGACUUUGUUAUAUUUCCAAGUAAAUAUUGUUUCGUCUCUUACUGUCUGCAGAAAUUGGAUCCUCAAAAUUUUUCAGGCUUGAUGAUUCCAAAGUUCUAGCUUGGAUGUACCAUAAGGUUUGUCCACAUCUGAUAUCACUUAAUUUUGGUGUUCGAUGAUUAUUGAGCAGUGUUUUUUUUUUGUUGAAGAAUUUGCUCCCCGCACCUCACAUGCCAUAUAACUACAUAUGAUUGACCACUAAUUGCUUUAUUUUUCUCUCUGAUCCAUGGCCUUGGGGCUAGUGACACCUCCUCCCCCGUAAUAGUAUGGUGGAGGGUAAGUUAUAGGUUUCAAGCAAGUUUGAAUUGUGCUUGUCUCUCAAUCUUUUUGUCUUUUUUCCUGGGUUCUUCCAUUUUUAAUGUUGAGAUAUGUGAAUAUAUCCAUGUACAUAUGGAAAUUUUCGAACAAUAUUUUAGCUACUUAUUGCUGCAAGUUUUUUUUUGGGUAAGUUUUUAUGAUCUUUGUGCCCUGUGAUGGCAGGUAUGUCAGCUAAAACAGACACUAUCCACCUUGGACAAUAAUUAUGCUGCAAGGGAAGAGAAAGAUAGAUGUACACUUUUAGUGAGAAAACCAUUUAUUUUAUGACUCCUGUUUCUCUCCCUUCUCUCUAGUGUCCAUUGGAAUUUCAUCUGUUCAGUGUUGAAGUGAGAGAAGUGAGCUUACUUUGGUAGUAAAAAACUGGCAUGUAGUCAAGACUGUUAUCGGCUGUAUAACAGCUUAUACGUAUUUAUUAUACUUAUAGCGCUCCCUAAAUCCUGCUAUGCCAUAAACAACUAGUUUAUAAGUAUGUGAAUCGUUCCAUUUUGCAUGGGAUGUCUGUUUUUCCAUUCAUUAAUUCACCUCUGUUACUGGUGCAGUAAUUGAUGCAGUUUCAAUAUUAGGGGAAUACUUGGAUGAGCCCUGGCUGAAGCUUUUGAGUGACCGUUUGAGGUAUUGCUUCAAAAAAUGGUUCAUAACAAGUCAUAAGUCUUAUGCCGUAGAAAUUUGGGAACUAAUGCGAACAUCUAUUGUUAGAACUUGGAAUGUUUCAAUUUUGAAAUGCAUUAACUAAGUCUGGGAUACUGAUUGUGUUUUCAGGAUAGACUUAACAGAGGCAACAAGAAAAAUGUCAGAUAUCGAAAUUCUCCCAACUGCCACAGAAUGCAAUGGCUCACAGGUAUGCCUUCCAGACAUAGGGCCACUUCUCUCUAUAAAUUGGAAUAAAUGAAAAACUGUUUGGUGCAGUUGUGGAGCCUGGACUAUUUCCCGGGAACUAAAUAUGCCCGCACACAAAUGUUUUCCUUAGUGUUUCAAAACUAAAUACUUGGAGUUGAUAGAUGCUUUCCAUAUCUCAUGACCAGAAAAUUUUGGUUCAUUCUGAUGGGUCUUUUUGUACACGUGUUGUAAUCUGUCAGGAAAAGAGUAAGAGUGACAAUAAGACUACCAGAGCUGGAAGGCAAGCUAAGAAGCCCAAAGUGGAGACAGAAUCACAUAACAUCAGAGAAAUGUUUACUAGAGCUUCUUCAAGAAGGAAAAAAUGAACCAUUUCAAAAUGACACAUUUUUGUGUAAAUCAUGAAGUUCCUCCAUCAUGAUUCGAAAUGCCAAUCUAAACGAUUUUGAUUAGCCAGUUUAGUCCAUCAGCAUUGACCACUGUACUGCUGCCUUGUAAUCCAUCGACUGUAUCAUUGAUUUGUGUUGUAGUGAUUAGUGACUGGUUAUUUCAAGAUUAAUGUUCUCACUGUAAACUGUAAGAACUAAGCUAUAUUCAAUGGUAACGUCUGAUUUUGGCAUAAGAUGAUGUAUAAUAAGGAAUUUUGUUAAUUUGUUGCAUGUGUAAUGCUAAAGCAGUCGUCCAUGCGCAAGUGGGCGAUUUCCAAUCUUUGAUGUGAUUUGGAUUUUUACUUAUAUCAAUGACCGAGACUCGCCCGCACAGUUCUACAUACAACCUGCAAUAUCAAUCGUACCCGUCUGGCCCGCAAGAGGUUCCAUUUCCUUUUGAUGAGUUCCGUGUAAUUGUCAUGCCGUUGGUCGAAUCAGGCCUUGAUAUCCGCCUACCUUAUCUAUUCCGAUUCAAAUGGACGAGGACUAUAAUUUUAUUUAUUUAUUUUAUCAAAUAUGCUAGAAUGUGACUUAUAUCAUUUUUUAAAAUAAUUUUUUUAAUCCUCAGUCAAAUUUUAUAUUUUUUUAAAAUAAAAUAUUCCACUCUUGUGUAAGAACAUGGGAAGAGGGCUAAAAGUGAGAAUCUAAUAUCUGCAAAGUGGGAUAUACCUUUUAUCCAUCAAUCCUUCCUUUGAGUUUGUUCCCUGCGCUUGUAUUCUCUUUUUAUUCUUUGGAAUUUGUGAUCCUUUUCCAACUCUCUGCCUGUGGGUUGUGUCCAUUUGCUUAAAUAUUCUUUUGUGACCAUUCUCAUGCACGAGCAAGCAAAGGGUUCUAGCCAGAAAUAGGGAAUAUAUAUAAUCUCCCUCUGUCUCUCUCUCUCAAGAAGAUUAUCCAAUCCUGAACUGAAGUCUCAGGUACUCCUCUGCUAUACUCGGAUCGAUUUCAACUUUCUGAGGAGUUUGUGUUAUUAUUAGGAAUUCCAUAAUCUUUUGUUUUUGCUCAUUAACAAUCCAUGAUUAUCAACGUAAUUGCUAUUACAUGUUUAAAGUAUGACCAUCGAAAAUGCUAAAGUCAGUCGUCUACAUGUGCAUGUAUAGGUGGCUGUCACACACGCACAUCAAUGGUGAACACAAGCCUACACGUGCGUGGAUGACUGUCAGCAUAGCUCUUGUGACAAUACUAAGUUUAUGGUGUGAAGAAGCAAUUGUAACUAAUAACUAAUAAGUUUUCUGAUUUGUCUAAAAGGGAAAUCACAUAUUGAUCACAUCCAGUUAGUCAACUUUGUGUUGGAAUAAAGAGCAUGCCGUGAUUCUUAUUGGAUGAUUCCUUACUUUGUCUACAUGCCCAAAUGAGUUGCCAAACAAAUCAAACUUAAACAAAUGGAGGAUUAUAAAAGAGAGAAUGAUAAUAUUGCCAACAAGGUAGCGUCAUGGCUGCAAAGCCAAGGUUGACAUUAACAUGUGCGUAUAUAGACGGUUUAAAAAGGCAUCCUCAUAUCUUUUCCUUUAUUUUAUGGAAUAUUUUGGGAGAAUAAUCGACUGCGAAUUGAUACAAUUGUUGAAAAUGUUUUAGAUUUCCCUUGUAGAAGAAUAUAUAUAUGAAGCAUCUACACCUCCCAAAGUUUGUAGCUUUGAUUGCAUGCAUAAUACAAAUCAAAUAUUCUUUUGCAGCAAGUCUAGCUACUUUUGUGAAUGUCACUCUUUCUUUCUGUUUCCUUGUUGAUCAUUGUGUUUUAGGAAAUAUAAAAGAGGGGUGGAGGCCAUACUUUGCUUGUAGUUCUGAUGGCAGUGCCUAGCAGCAAUAUAGCAACCAUCCUCGAAUCUCAAGGAGUUGAGUUCCUUCUAUCUGGUGACAGAAAGGUAGUCUUCAAAAGCUUCUCCUUCUUCCUCCUCUCGUUUCAAUCAAUAUUUUUGUUUUUCUUUGGUUGCUGAGUUUCAAAAGAUUUUAGUUUCAUGGAAUGUUCUGGUGCCCCAACCACCUGAAAAUAUGGGAGCAUGAGUUUUAAGUGGUCUAUAGAAACCCCAAUUUUUGGCUAGAAAAGGAUGUCUCUUCAAUUUCAGAGGUGAAUUUCUAAUCGCUGUUAUGAUAAGUAAAGCGUAAUCUUGUUUUUUGAUUAUGAGGUUAGGUCCCCUUGUCAUCAUGUAAUGGGAAGACAGUGUGCCUCUUCUUCUCAGCAAAUUGGUGUAGGCCUUGCAAGGCUCUUACCCCUCAGCUGGUGAGGCUUUAUGAUGUGCUUAAAAUGGAAGGUAAAGAGUUUGAGAUUAUCUUCGUCUCCUUCGACCGCGAUGAGGAAAAAUUUAAUGAACACUUCAAGUGCAUGCCAUGGCUGACAAUCCCAUUUGAUGCAAACCUGCAUAAACGAUUGAGUGACCUGUACCACGUCGAUCGCAUCCCAUCACUCAUUUCAUUAAGUUCAGAUGGAAUAUCAGUUGAGGAAGACUUGGUUGGACUGAUUGAAGACUAUGGAGCUGAGGCAUUUCCAUUCACUAAGAACAGAAGAGAAGAACUAAAGGCUGCUGAUGAAGCGAAGCGCGAAGGGGGAAAACUAGAAGAGCUUUUGGCUCAUCAAGGACGAAACUAUGUCAUGUCUAGUGAUGGUAGAGAGGUAGUUUUUUUACUACUACUUUCAAUUCUUAAAUUUUUUGUGGCUUACUUUGUCACUGACAUAUAUGAUUGCUCAUCUACAGGUAUCAGUGUCCAAACUUAUUGGUAAGACCAUAGGCCUUUACUUUGGUGCACAUUGGAGCCCUCCUUGCCGCGCCUUCACUUCCAAACUUAUAGAAGCAUACAACGAGCUCAUGGCCUCCAGUGAUCAAGACCUCGAAAUCAUUCUAGUCUCCACAGACCGAGACCUCAAAGAGUUCGAGCUCAACAUAAGCUGCAUGCCAUGGCUUGCCAUCCCAUACCAAGAUAAAACAAGACAAGACCUUUGCAGAAUUUUCGACAUUAAAGUGAUUCCGGCUUUGGUUCUGAUUGGACCAGAUGGGAAGGCUAUUAGCACAAAUGGGAAGGCCAUGAUCUCCUUGUAUGGUGCCAAGGCCUUCCCAUUUACAGAAUUCAGGAUCAAAGAGCUGGAGGCAGCUUUGAGAAAAGAAGGAGAGGCGUUGCCUCCUCAAGUGAAGGAUAUAAAGCAUGACCAUUUGCUGAAGUUGGACAUGGCCAAAGCAUAUGUAUGUGAUUAUUGCAAGAAGCAGGGGAGGUUCUGGGCAUUCUCUUGUGGUGUGUGUGAUUAUGAUCUUCAUCCGACUUGUGUAGAAAAGUCAUUUUAAGAAAAAGUUUAUUGAAUUGUGAGAGGUGUGAGUGUAAGUAAUUGAAUAUUGAAAUUUGGCUAUGCUGAAGUUGUUGUAAAAUGUUGAUAAGAUAUCCUUAUCAGCAAAGAUUUAGUAAAACUGUUACUGGAUGAAAAUGCACCCAUUGCAACCAACCCCUCAUUUUAAUUUUUAGGAAAAAAAAGGAAAAUGCAAUUGGACCCUUUUAUAAAAUUACUGAAAUUAGAAAAUAAGAAGAAAAAUUAGGGUUGAAGGGGGGUGGUGGGUUGCAAUAAUUUGGGAAUAAUAUGAGUUUAAGGGAUAAAGAAAUUUUUGUGGAGCGGAAGAGUAGAUGGGUGGGAUGAACAGAUUGGUGAGUGACGGUAGAUUACAAUUUGUUUGUAGCUCAAGUGGUUAAUAUCAUUUACCUCUGCACCCCAAGUAGGUUCGAUUCCCCCCUCCCAAUAUCGUUCCUAUAAAAAAAGAUUACAAUUUGUUUUUAAGAAUGAUAAACAUAACUAUUUUGACAUUUUCCAAAUAUGAGUAAGCUCUCAAGACUUUCUCAAAUCUUGUCCCUGUGCUGAGUGCUGAGAUUGUGAGAAUUUGAAGGACAGGAGGGGUUGACUGAGAGAGACAAUAUAUAGUCAUUAGCUUUAGGGAGAGGCCAGACACAAAAAAAGAAUCCGCUAAUGAUGGAGGGUCCUUUCAUAUUAAUAACCCAAUCUGGACAGAGCUAUUUAUGGAUUAACCAGUGAAAACAAUCAAAAUUAGUUGGUCAUUGCCAAAAGUGAUUUCUUGUUUCUGCUAGCUGAAAACAACAACAAAAUAAGAAACAUUAAGGUCAAACAACAGCACAAAUACCUGGAACACAAUCCUUCUUUGUCUCUCUCUUUGGACCCUGCUGCAGAAGAGAGACAAAGGAAUUCAGACAAAGUGAAAACGACGCUUUAUUAAUUUUGUGAUCUUAAGGCUUGAUUGAUAUAUAGUUGCCAUUAGAUUUUUGUUCUUGUUCUGGUUUUGUUUGAGUAAAAAGAAACAACACAGGAACAGAAAAGAGAGAGAGAGAGAGAGAGAGAGAAAUGUGGCUGCCUAAUAAUCAUGUUGACAAGAAGGAAGGAGGGAAUGGGAUUGUGGCACUGGCCAUAGACAAGGACAAAAACAGCCAGAGUGCACUCAAAUGGUGUAUAGACAGUCUUGUCAAACAAGGCCAAACAGUCCUUCUCAUCCAUGUCAAGAUCAAACCUCCUGUGUUUUCCCAAUCACCUUCUCUUUCCACCCCAAGUAUGCAUUAUCUCUGUGCAUAUAUAUAUAUUUAUUUAUUUUUUUCCUUCAUGCUUUUCUUCUUCUUCUUCUUCUUCUGUUCCAUAAUUUCUGCACACCAGAAAAUAACAACAUACUUUUUGGGUGCAGGAAGUAACCCAAAUUGGGACCAACAUUUGGUAUGCAAAGACCCUGAUCCCCAAACCAAGGAAUUGUUCCUUCCUUUUCGUGUUUACUGUACACGUAAAAAUGUGAGUGUGAUGAAAUUAUGUUCGCUUGUCUUUUCAGUUAGUAAGCAACACAAAAUCCUACCAGCAUUAUUGAUCUUAAUCUGCGCCUCCAUAUUAGUUGAGGCUUUUUGAGCAUUGGCUUUUUCCUUUUUUUUGUUUUUUUUGUUUUUUGACUUCACUCAUUUUUAUUUUUAUUUUUGAAAUCAGAUACAAUGCAAAGACAUUGUAUUAGAAGACUCUGAUAUAGCAAAAGCAUUGAACGAGUACGUUACUCAAUCUGCAAUCGAGCAUUUGGUUGUUGGUGCCUCAGCAAAAACUGGCUUUCUCAGGUAUAUACUUUUUUUAACUCGGCUGCUGAAGCCUUAGUUAAAAAAAGAAAAAAAAGAAAAAACCAAUAUCAAAUUCUGGAAAGAAGGCUCUACAAUUCUAUAGGAUGUUAUGAUGGUUGCAUGCCUGUUGAAUGGGAUAUGUGAUAAAAGGGCCUUGAAAGUCCACAGAACAUUUUCUUAUCUUCAAAAACCUUUUGUAGAUUCAAAAUCUCAGAUGUUCCAGGAAACGUAUCAAAGGGGGCACCAGAUUUUUGUAAUGUAUAUGUUGUGUCCAAGGGAAAACUUCAAUCAAGGAGGUCUGCCUCACGUCCUGCCCCAUCCAUCUCACCCAUACGAGCCCCAGUUCGUAGCCAUACCCCAAGCGCAAAGUCAGAGCCUUAUGUCUUCCCUCCGUCUGGCAUGAAAGGUUAGUUUCUUGCACCUUAAGCAUAAUACUGCCUCACUAACUUUUUGCUCUAACAUUUCUCAGUAAAACUUAAUUGUUGGAUCCUCUACCAGGACAUGAAAAGCCACCAGAACCACACCGUAAAUCCCAUGAUGAAAUGGAAAACUUCAGGUCAGUGGCACUCAGUUUCCCUUUCAAUGAAGAUAGACAAGAAGGUGUUAUAAAACAUAAAGCUGGUAUUACCUACAUUAUUGUGAGAACUAACAUAUAGUCAUUAUGGAAAGCAGGUCUCCAUUCACUAGGAAAGGGCCAAAUGGGAAGUCCUAUGCAGAUCUCCCUAUGCCAGACACAGACAUAUCUUAUGUUAGCUCUGGAAGGCCAAGCAUUGACCGUAUAUUCCCUGCAUUCUAUGACAACCUAGAUUCAGGAAGAAUCACCCCGCCACGAAUGUCAAGCAGCACAGAAAUAGACUUGAACCACAGCUUUGAGUCUAUGCAGUACUUUGGACGGAGAUCUGUGGAUGUCAGCUCCUCUCCACCUACAUUCUCUUCUGUCUCUCAGGAUAGUGAUCGAUUAUCCUCUGCAUCACAGCCGAUGGUAAGCAUAUGACUUUUUAUCUAGUCAUUUAAUUUGACAAAUAUGUACUUCUUUCUCAUACAUUAUUUAUGCUUGAAUAUACUUAAGUUUAGGUGAGGUGUGUCAAAACUUGAAAUAUAUUGAUUUAUGUGUGAUUGGACCAAUGAGGCUCCUGACCAUCAUCCUAUAACUAGUUUUUGUAUGGAGAAGUUUCACUUGCAUUUACAGAUUGUAGGUGUUAGGUCCCAUUACUCAGUGGCAUCCAAAUUUUUUGUUACAAUAGAGAUGGUUGUGUUACUCAAAAUUACAGGAAGAUGUGGAGGCUGAAAUGAGGAGGCUAAAGCUGGAGCUCAAGCAAACUAUGGAAAUGUAUAGCACUGCCUGUAAAGAGGCACUCACGGCGAAGCAAAAGGUACCAUAAAUCUUAUCAGCAUUGCACCUCUGAUGAUUUUCACAGGAAGCUCUUAUAAGAUAUCUAUUCUACAGGCAGUAGAACUCCAGCGCUGGAAAUUAGAAGAAGAAAGAAGAUUGGAAGAGGCGCAUCUAGCUGAGGAAGCUGCAAUGGCUAUUGUUGAAAGGGAGAGAGCUAAGUCCAGAGCAGCCAUUGAGGCAGCUGAAGCAGCUAAGAGGAUUGCAGAACUGGAAGCACAAAAAAGAAUCAAUGCAGAAAUGAAAGCACUCAAAGAAUCAGAAGAGAAGAGAAAGGCACUUAAUGCUCUGCAACAUUCGGAUGUCAGGUAUAGGAAGUACACAAUUGAUGAGAUUGAGGCUGCCACAGAGUUCUUCACAGAAUCUCGGAAGAUUGGAGAAGGGGGUUAUGGUCCUGUAUAUAGGUGUUAUCUAGACCAUACACCUGUUGCAAUUAAAGUUCUACGCCCUGAUGCUGCUCAAGGAAGAUCACAGUUUAACCAAGAGGUACUUAUGUUACCAGGAUAUGAAUUUGGACUAUUCGUUCGAAAGGAUCUUGGCUUGCCAGACUGUCUAAACAAGAGAGAUUUUCCCCACAUAUGCACCAAUAUUUAAUGAUAAAACAUAUUUCUAUACCUUGUUCAGCUGUGGAACAUUGUUGUUUCUUUUGUUGACUUGCUAAUGACCAUGAACAGGUUGAAGUACUGAGCUCUAUACGGCAUCCGAACAUGGUUCUCCUCCUGGGAGCCUGUCCUGAGUAUGGAUGCCUAGUUUACGAGUACAUGGCUAAUGGGAGCUUGGAAGAUUGUCUCCUUCGUAGAGGAAACUCUCCACCUCUCUCUUGGCAACUUAGGUUUAGGAUUGCAGCUGAAAUUGGCACAGGCUUGCUUUUCCUCCACCAGGCUAAACCAGAGCCACUUGUGCACCGUGACUUAAAACCUGGCAACAUCUUGAUUGACAGGAACUUUGUGAGCAAGAUCAGUGAUGUUGGGUUGGCCAGGCUUGUGCCCCCAGCUGUUGCUGACAAUGUGACACAAUAUCGAAUGACAUCCACAGCUGGCACAUUCUGCUACAUAGAUCCUGAGUAUCAGCAAACAGGCAUGCUUGGUGUGAAGUCUGAUGUUUACUCACUUGGGAUAAUGUUUCUACAAAUGAUCACAGCUAAGCCAGCAAUGGGAUUGACUCAUCAUGUCGAAAGGGCUAUCGAGAAGGGGACUUUCGAGGACAUGCUGGAUCCAUCUGUGCCAGAUUGGCCAGUUAAAGAAGCCAUGAAGUUUGCCAAACUUGCUCUCCAGUGUUCAGAGUUAAGGCGAAAAGACAGACCAGACCUUGGCAAGGUUAUCCUGCCGGAACUCAACAGAUUGAGAGGGAUUGCUGAAGACACAAUGCACCAUACACUAAUGGCUGGUGAUAGCCCUUCAUCUCAGCACAGCCAAGUUUCGAUGCAGCUAGUAAGUUAUAUGGCCAACAAAUUCGAUUUUUUUUAUUCAUUUACAGCAAACCCAAAACCAACCCUAAAAGCUUCAAAUGCUCAAAAUGGUGUUCUUUGUUUUUUUGUUUGUUUUUUGCAGGAGGGGGGUGAACCAGAGUCACAUUCUGCCGCGAGCUAGGAGGAACACAUAUCAACCACUCUCUAACAUCACAAAUAUGUAGACUAUUUAAGAGAACAUGUUUAAGGGAAUGUAACUUUGUAAGUAAGCAGACCGAAAAAGAAAAAAUGUACAAGUUUUGUAGAUAAAUUGAUGAGCUCAUGAAAUUUCUCAGCAUGUGUAUCUGACUUUUUUGGUCUUUUGGUAUUUUAGAUUAGUCAAUCACUUCUGAAUUAUCACUUUCUUACUCUCUUUUGUUUGCAAAGUAAUACAAGUACGAUGUUUUAGGGUUUAGGGUUUGCAAGUACAAGUAAUACAAGUACGAUGUUUUGGUCGAAGCAACCAAAGAUCCUUAGCGAAACUCUUUCCCUCUCUGACCAAAACAUGUCAUCUUGGCUCCUCUAAACCUUUAUUUAUUUAUUUUAAGAAAAGGAUUUCAUUCAUAAGCCAAGAAAGCAUACAAAGACCGGCACGAAUACAAUGGUCUCGUUAAAAUCUUCAUAGGAAAACCACAUGGGACAAACUCUAGGGUAGGAAAGAGUUCCACAUUUUCAUGGACUAACAAGAAAGUUCGACAUAGGCCACUUUGGACCGCUACAAAGAACCCGAAAGAAUAUAGACGAAACAAAGCACAACUCCAAGCCCCGCAAAGAACAACUCACUACAACUUAAUACUGUCAAAGAAAAACUCCUAUGCACGCAUAUUUCAAUGUAUAGAACAACGUGUUGUGAGCGUUAGAACAUAGCCAGCAGAAGUACCAAUACCAAAGCACAACUCCAAGCGCCGCAAAGAACAACCCGCCACAAUGUAAUACUGUCAAAGAAAAACUCCUAUGCACGCAUAAUUCGAUGUACAGAACAACAUGUAGUGAGCAUCACAACAUAGCUAGCAGAAGUACCAAUACCAACUCCAUGAAUCUUAAUCUAGGCCCUACCCGAUAGGGCAUAGGGGAUCAAGAAUGGCCUCUUAGCCUGACGAACUUCCAACAUAAGAGCAUCAUAAUAAGAACGUUUAUCGGAUGCCAAGCCCACAAACGUUUUAACAAACACAUUAGGGAGAAUUGGAAGACCCCUCGAGGUUGGCCUUUGUCACCUUUUUAGCAAACUCGGCGAAAUAUUGCUCAACAAUAGUAAAGGCUCUAUCACUACUCGGAUCCCAUAUCCCCACCACAACAAAACCCAGAGAGAUGGAACAGAGAUCGCUACCAACAACCCUAUCCGCCAAAAAUCGAACCCAAUACCGACGAUCCUAGAACGCACCAAAUCCAUUCGAUCCAAGAACUCCUAGAAGCCAACCACCAGUAAACUCCCAGCCGGCACCACCAGCACCUCGCCAAAAUCCCUAGCUCCUCUAAACCUUGUCACCAUUGUCAAAAUUAACAACCUUAAACCUUGUCUGCUGAGGAUUAACCAGCUAGGCUUAAUUUCCAGAUGAUUCACUCAACAGCUCAUUCCACAAUUAGGUUAUAUGUUUCCGGUUAAAUAUCUUGGCCCAUAUAUUACUAUUUAGGGCACACCGAAAAAUUUCUCAUCAAUACGAACAGUUUCAGUUAAAAACAUUUGAAAAUGGUUCCCUUUUUCAUGGAGGGCCUUUGUAGUACUUAACAAUUUGGUAGUAUGAUCUAAUAUAAUGUUGCCCAUUUGCUUUCGACGUCGACAAAUCGUAUUCAUUCCAUAAAAGAUAGCUUAGUUGGAAAUUAGAUUGCCACUUAUAAAUCAUCCUGAUAUCUUUGUCACAUUGUGUUCAACGUUGGCCUUUUAUCAAAUUGCAUGGAUGAGAAAAUGAAUACUCUGAACCCAUUUGGCCUUUCAUAACAGAACAAGCUAAACAUGGAGCCUAGUAUUUCCUGUGUUCACAACAUCGGCAAGAAGUUUCUCACUCUGAACCCUUUUGGCAUUGAUCUGUACCUGUUCAAUGCUCUGCUUCAAGGUCCUUGUUAUCAACGGGUUGGGGUGGGAUUUGAAGAACUCAUCUACUUCAUUAACCUUCUCAAAUGAAGCCAACUGCAGAGGAAGGUAACCACGAAAGGACAAUGAGGGCACAAGAAGAGAAGGAAAUGGAAAAGGCAUUAGAACAAAAGGCCUCAAAGACAGAGAGAGAGAUAUAUAUAUAUAUAUAUAUAUAUAUACAUGCAAUUAACUCUGUAACUUUCAGGAGAAAUGGAAUUAACUCUCUAACUUUUCUAUGUAUGAAGCAAGUGACUGUCUUGGUCCUAAUUCUGGUCUGUUAUCAUGAUUCAAGGUUGAUUUCUAGAGCUUAAUACUAAAGGAAUUCAUGUAUUGGUGUUCUCUACAAUCACCUAUGUAAUAUAAUCAUUCGCAAAGGAACAGAAUGAUCUUCCUCUUAUAUUAAUAAAUGGUUACCCUAUUUCAUUAACUGUAUAACUUGAGGCAUACACAAAUAAGACCAUAGCUCAGUCUGGACCAUGCUAACCAUUUAAGGGUCAAGAUCAGCCCAAACUCAAAAUUCAUGGUUACCCUAUUUCAUUAACUGAUUAAAUCCCGCACAAUUGGACCAAAAGACUAGCUAUUGAGCUAGUUCAGUAUUUCACAUCACAGUCCAACAAUCUCCUCAAGAUCUCUAUCCUCUAAAAAUCCUGCAUGCCCAGAAGCCUCGAUUUUUUGGAAAUUUCCAUGACGUAAAUGUAAUUUUUUUUAAAAUAAGAUAGUUGCUUCAAUCUUCAAGGAUACAUGCUAACAAACCAAAGGACUAACCUGGAAGCAUUCAGCACCAAGAUAGUUUUGUAGCAUCCGGAUAACAGAACCUCCUUUUCUAUAACUUAUUGCAUCAAAUAUUUCAACAACCUCAGCAGCAUGAUUGAUCACCACCUGGCCAAAAAGAAGAAAGAUUAAAACAUAAUAUACCAUAAACACAUAUAAACUAAUGCCCUUCAAUAAAUGAUGCCUUGAAAAGUAUAGUGGUGAAUAGUACUAUGUGAAGCCUGUCAUGCAAGUUAUCCAGGUUCGAUGCCGCAAAACAGCAAAAGUUUGGACAACAGAACUAAAAUAAAACCCAUGAAAGACUGAUUCCGCAUAGAAGUACCUCAAUGGGGUGAGAUCCUUCAAGCCCAUCCAGCUUGAGACCCCCAGUAAUUUCAUCAAGAAACUUUGCCCACAUUUUCGACUCUGGGAACAAGCUAUCAGUAGCUAAAUAGCUCACCUAAUGGUGUUAAAAUACUUACUUAAGUCCAAAAGCAUAUAAAAUAACAAGUACAACAAAUGAAAUGAAGUGUUACCCAUGUUGCAAAUCCCUCGUUCAGCCAUAAAAGUGUCUACCAUUCCAUCGUUACAAGAUUGCCAAACCACUGGUGUGCCAAUUCAUGUGCCACGGCAGUUGCAACCUGUCAAAAAAGCCAAAUGAAAAACAAUUCUUUAUGGUUAAAAAACAACAGCUACAUAUCAUAUGAACCAAGCUAAAUUCUGAAAGCUAGAGUUACAUUCAAGAUGUGUAUGUUACCCAUUGCUUGAUCGCAGCUGCAGAGUGCUGUUCGUCAUUGAGCAAAGCGGUUUCUUGGUAUGUAACUAAACCCUAAUUCUCCAUGGCGCCAGGAAAAUCAGGGAUUGCAACCAUAUCCAAUUUGGGCAAAGAGUAUGGCACAGCAAAGUAACUGUCACAUUUCGUCAAUGAUUCCAUUUUGAAUGCCAAAUAUAAUAAUGCAGAAUUAGCAGGGAAGGGGAAAAAAAAAACUAGAGAAACUAAUAAUCCACAACAUGCAUAAAGUGUAAUUUAGAAUUUGAAUAUGAAUGCUUAGUAAUUUUUUUGUAGUUUUGUGAUCCAAAAACAUACUCUUUGUAAAAUUCAAGAGUCUUGACAGCAACGUCCAAAGCAAACUUCCCUUAGUUUGCCUUACCAACUUGACAAUAUACCCGAACUUUGACCCCUGUGGUGAGAUGAAAUGUGACACCAUGAAGAAAGGUUGUACAAGCAUACACACAGAACAAAGGACAAUGUGUAUGAGUUUACCAUCAGAUGUAUGAUCUUCAACAAAAUCAAACAACCCAACAACAACGGCCGCCAAAUAUGUAGACACGAUUGGUAAUUCUUGAAAUGAAACUGUCUUCAGAUGUCCAUCCACUUUUUCUUCUACAAUAGGCAUGUUGGAAAGAGCUAUUAAUUCAGAUGGAACAUCAUCCAGUCUAAUCUUGAAUGUAGCCUGCCAAUCAAUCAAAGUUCCGAUAAGGAUAAACGGGAUCAAUUCAAACUCUAGAAAUUCAACAACAAUUUAACCACAACCGGAAGAUUGAUUUCUCAUCUAUAGUAAAUUACCAUUAUAAACAACGUAUCUCUUUCUUCCGAGGAGACUCAAAGAUGCAAUUAGAACAAUGUGAAGCAUCCAGAAUCGCUUUCAACAAAAUCACAAGAUUCAAAUACAAAUCAAUAUUUAAUUGAACUGAGUUUGUUAGACAGAGCAACCUUCCAAGCAGGUUCAUCCCAGCAGGGAAAGCACCGCCUGGCAUCAACCGGCGCAAACUGCGUAACUGCCAUAUUUUUCUUCUCACCAUCACAUAAUGAACGAACCAAAGUUUAGCCAUUGAAGUGUAAUUAAUAUUGACUGUGUAAGUUGUAAGGAACCCAGAAUUCAAAGAACACACCUCUGUAGAAUCCCUUCAUCUUGUCAUUCAAAAUUCCUUCAAACCCAAUACCCAAAACUCCCGAACCAAUCGGCAGCGUCUCCCCAAACUCCAGAACCAAAAUCCCAUCUUCUUCAAAUGUCUCAACUUUCCAAGGCUUGAAAAGUACCUGCUCUCAGAAAUCAUUGUUAACUAUAGUUAUUAUGUUAACUAUGGUUAGCAAGUCAGUAAGUUUGUUACAAGUCUGGUACCUAGCACGUGUAUUAGUUAGACAGCUAAGCUAUGUGGUUAGUCAGUUAAGCUCCUCUGUAAUCUGUUUACAUAUAAGAGUGGGCUAUGCUUUGUAAAAGUCAGUUAAUAAUCAAAACUCAGAAAUCCUUUAGUCCUCUCCAUUUCUCUUUCUCUGUUUCUGAUAUCUCUGAAAUACUCUUCUUCUUCUGUUCUGUUAUCAAUCAUUUCAUUACUUUCCUUUUUCUUUCUUGAGUACAAUUGUCCAAUUGUCCGAAGCAAGCAAGCAAAUGCAUCAUGCAUGGCCUGGCAGCAGGGAUCAGUCAGUGGUACCUUGGAGGAAGCGAAAGACACGGAAGCGGCAUCGACGGAGAGGUCGGCGGCGUCGAGGACGAUGAACAGGGUAUCGCAGACGAUGUCGAGGUGGACAGCGACGGAGCCGCCGAAACUGCAGGAGUUGAGGUCCGGUUUGAGCGUUAUGUCGUACCGUUUCGGCAGGCGAGGGUGGUCUUUGAACUGCUCCAUCUCCACCAUGUGAACAAGUGCCGAGGACUUCGAAGUUGAACUGCUCUCUCCAUCUCCAUGUUGAAAAUUGGCGACAAAUUGUUGACUUUGGAGGAGUUGUCCACGUUUGUCAAAUGUAUGGAACGGCUUGUCUCAGUUGGAAUGAAACAUAUGACAAUUGGUUCGAGUGCAAGGUGAGAGUGACACCGACUUAAAUAUUCAAAUAGUAUAGCCCCGCGGCUAUACUAUUAAAAUAUCCGAAUAUAUUUAAGGAGUAAACGUAUAGCCGCACGGCUAUACUCUUUAAAAUAUAUAUAAAUAUAUUUCAAUAUUCGUAUAUAUUUAAAGCGUACAGCCGCCUGGCUAUAUUAUUAAGAUUUCGAACAUAAAGGGCUCGUUUGGUACACAGGACUGUCUUGGCAUGGACUAUGUUUAGGGACUGGUUUGGCUUGGCUUGGCUUGGUCUAAGUUAGAUAACACUUAUCCUGCGUUUGGUGUAUGCUUGGACUAGGACUAUAAUUUUUUUAUUUUUUCAAAAAUAUAUAUAUGUAUAUAAGUAUAUUAUAAUAAUAUUAUAUAUUUUAAAUAAUAUAAACGUACAUACAUAUAUAUAUAUAUAAGUGUAUAUAGAUGUAUAUAUGUAUAUUAUAAUAUACAUGGGUAUAAUACAUAUACAUAUAUUUAUAUAUAUGUAUGUAUAUUAUAAUAUAAUAUAUAUAUAUGGGUAUGUUAUAAUAAUAAUAAUAAUAUACAUGUAUAUACGUGUAUAUAUGUAUAUUAUAUAUGUAUGUAUAUAUACAUAUAUAUUAUAUAUAUUAUAAAAUAUAUAUGUAUAUAUAAUAUAUGUAUAAUAUAUGUAUAUAUAUUAUAUAUUAUAACAUACAUAUAUAUACGUAUAUACAUGUAUAUAAUAUAUGUGUAUAUAGGUGUAUCUAUAUAUUAUAAUAUAUACAUGGGUAUAAUACAUAUACAUAUACAUAUGUAUAUUAUAUUAGAUAAUAUAUAUGGGUAUGUUAUAAUAAUAAUAUACAUGUAUAUACGUGUAUAUAUGUAUAUUAUAAUAUAUAUACAUAUAGUAUAAAUAUAUAAUGUAUAUGUCUAUAUACGUGUGCAUAUGUAUAUUAUAAUACAUACAUGGGUAUAAUAUAUACACAUAUAUAUAUACUUAUAUAUAUGUAUUAUAAUAAUAUAUAUUACAUAUAUACAUGUAUGCUAUUAUUAUAAUAUUAAUAUGCAUAUGUAUAUGGGAAUAUUAUAAUAAUAAUAUACGUGUAUAUAUCUAUAUGUAUUUAUAUAUUAUAUAUGUAUAUAUGUGUUUAUAUAUAUACAUGUAUAUACGUGUAUAUAUGUACCUUAAUAUAUAAUAUAAUAUAUGUUACAUAUAUACAUGUAUACAUGUAUGCUAUUAUUAUAAUAUUAAUAUGUAUGUGUAUAUGAGUAUAUUAUAAUAAUAAUAAUAUAUGUGUAUAUAUCUAUAUGUAUUUAUAUAUAUUAUAUAUGUAUAUAUGUGUAUAUAUAUAUACUUGUAUAUGUGUAUAUACAUGUAUAUAUGUACAUUAUAGUAUAUGUGUAUGUAAUAAUAAUAAUAAUAGUAAUAUAUGUUAUUAGUAUUACAAUAUAAUAUAUGCAUCUCAUACAUUGGUAAACAUAGGACUAGCUAAUCCUCCCUUUCUUCAUGGGAUUAGUAGUCCCCUCUUAAGGAGGUGUUUUUGGUGGGCCCGGUAUUAGCAAUCCCAUCUAAGACUAGAAUUAAAUGAAACAAACGUGGUACUAAAUUUAGUCCAAGCCAGUCCAAGCCAAGCCUGUGUACCAAACGACCCCAAAGAGUAUAGCCACGCGGCUAUACUAUUAAAAAUUUCGAAUAUAUGUGAGAACUAUAGCCGCCCGGCUAUACUCUUUAAAUAUAUAUAUAUAUAUCUCAAUAAUAAUUAAUUUUUUUCUAGAAAUUUUUGCUACGGCUAUACCUAAAAUUUUUUUUUUUUUUAAAGGCGCUAAGCGGUCCUUUUUUUUUUUUUUUUUUUCCUGAUUUUAAAGAAAACCCCACUGCCUCUCUCUCCUCUGAGCCGUCGCCUCCUAACUCUCUCUGCAACCUCCUCGCCCACCCACGACUGCUCCGCCCACCUGCCUUUGAUUUCAAGUAUUUUUCUUUGUAGUACUAUAUUAUAUGCUUUAUGUCGGCCAUGCCCUCUUGGCUUCUGUUGUUUGUUGGGAGCAUGGUUUGUCCUCUCAAUUGUAUUUCUCUAAUUUGACCUUUUUGGGCUUCCUUGCCCUAAAGAUUUUGCUUUGUAACUUUCGUUUUCGUAUUUUAUUAAAGAAAAACACAUCUUUUAGACUUCACACUUGCUCCCCCACUUAAUCUUAGGUUACAUUUGGCUGGAUGGAUUUGACACAAAUGCUUAAUUUGUUAUAAAAAAAAACAAAAACAAAAACAAAAUAAGAUUGAAUGUGUUUGAAAUAACUAGAUGUAGUACAUUUGAAAUGAAUAUAUGCAUUGAAUUCCAUUUGUUUUCUUCCUUUCUUUCUUAUUCAAAUCUUGGCAUAAAUAGAAUAUAAAACAAACAAUUUUACCUUAUAAUGUCAUCUAAAUCCAUAGAUUUCAAAACCUUGCACUCCAUUGUUCCUCAAAACCUUGUCACUAUUGUCAAAAUUAACAACCAUAAACGUUCUCUGCUAAGAAUUAACCAACUAGGUUUAAAUAUGUUGCAUUGAUUUUCAAGUGCGGUCACACCGAAAAAUUUCUUUAUGUGAAUCAGAACAGUUUUCAUGACGAACACUUGAAAUCCAACCCAUGGUUUAUUUUUUGGUCCUGGGUAUGCCUUUGUAGUACUUAACAAUUGGCACGAUUUAAUGUAGUGUAGCCCAUUUGUCUUCCAUAUGGGCAAAUCAUAUUCUUUCAAUAAAAGGUAGCAUAGUUGAAAAUUAAAUUGCCACUUAUAAAUCAUCAUGCUAUCUACGUCACAUUGUGUCCAAUACUCAGUACAUUUAUUCUUCGUUUGGGAAAUUUAAGUUACAUAACUUUCGAAAUCCAGAAUUCUCCUUCCAUAACAGAAGCUUAAAUAUGGAGCCUAGUAUUUCCUGUGCGCCAACUCCUUCACAAUAUCGGCAAGAUUUUUCUCACUCCCAACACUCUGAACCCACUUGGCGUUUAUCUGUACCCGCUCAAUGCUCUGCUUCAAUGUUCUCGUUAUGGAGAGGUCAGGAUGGACUUUGAAGAACUCAUCUACUUCCUUAACCUUCUCGAAUGAAGCCAACUGCAGAGGAAGGUAAAACCACCAAAAGUACAACGAAGGCACAAGCAUUGAACAAAAUGGAAAGGCAUCAGAACAAAACAAAAGGCCUCAAAGACAAGAACAAACAUUUCAAGAGAGAGAACGAACCGGUGAAAUGAUGGCACUGACAAAGCGAAGCAGAUAUCCAGAACUCCAGGUCUCUGAGAUGUGCUCCCAGUUAUCCUGUAUUUUGGAUCAUCCAAAGGGCGAAAUGAAUCAUGUUAACAAUAGUGGGGAAAAUAAAUUCAUUAAUGUCAUUAAAAACUAGUGCUCGAGAGAUGCCUUCAGCCACGUCCAAGCUGUUUCCCGCCCUUUACUACUAACAGAAAGCCCGAGGGCUGCAUCCUGUCUGCGGACCUACAUAGAUGGGAUCAUCAAACUAAGUACCAUCAAGCUUUGAGAUACUCUUAAUUCAAAUUUUCAACCAGUAAUUAAGAUAUAUAUAUAUAUAUAUAUAUAAUAUAUAACAACAUCGCAAGUACCUCAGAAGACAAUAAGAAGUUGAGAAAUUCCAGUAUUAUGUUGGGAUCUGGACAAGACGCUAGUGAUCCUACAGGCACAAAGAGAUGCAUUACUCCCUGGCAUAACAGACUCAGAUGUUCGGCAUACUUUUACUAAAUUAAUCAGUAUUACUUAAAAUGCGGGUUUUCUCCUCCCUUAGAUCAGUCUCUCUGUAAACUCCAAGAAGAGAUUCAUAGCCCGAUCUUUCAGACAUGCUUACUCUUUGCAUUACAGCCACAUACACUGCCUGCAACAAUAGUUAAUAAUGAACAUCAAGAGGGAAUUUAAAAGGUUGAAUGUACAGUUUACAUCGAGACAACCUUUCUUAUGUCAGGAGGAAGGAGUGGCGUAUUUCUGUCAUCUAAGAAGGCAUGAAAACGCCUACUUGCUUCAUCUAUCGUCAGGUCAUGCCCAAACACAGCAAGGGCAGUCAAAAUGUCUCCUCUCAGCAUUGCAUCUAAAUGGCUCUCACCGGGUUUAGGCUCCCAACCAAGCUUCCUGUAAACAAAUUCAACAUAAAUAAUAAACUGUACACAAAAAUAAAUAAAAAGAAAGGAGAAAAUUUUGUGGAUAGUUUGGGAGUGUUAAACAUUUUGCUCCCGCCCCAACUUCAUUAUCAUCAGACAAGCUUAUCUACCUAGGUACUUGAGUAGUUAAAACAGAACAAGCUUACUCUGCAGAGUACUGGAAAAGGCCAAUAAAUAAUUGAUUAAUGAGAUCCAGUAGCUCGGGCACAGCAUCAGCGGCAAUUGUUGCCAGCUUAUAACUUAUCUGUGAAAAGUGAAGACCAAAAUCAGACCAAGGACACAAAUACAGUAACAUAAACACAAAGCAGAGGUUAUCAUUACGUGAAUCAAAUUUGACAGCACUGUACAGUCAAGUUCCUCUCGGUAAGCACCCAGCAAGGUAAGCAGUGAAGCAAACGACUGCUGGCGAGCCAUAGAAAGGGCAAAUGAAUCAUCCAAAACUCCUGUUAAAAGGAAAAAAAAGGGCAAAAACUAAACACUACCAUUUAACUAUCAAAUAGAUAAGCAAGUGUGUGCAUAAAAAAUUGAUUACCAAAUCUGUCAGUUGCAGACAAGUGUUUCUUUUCUAUCGCACUUCUAAGUGCAGCUGAAAGUUCCUCCUCAUAUUUCACCCUGUAAAAACCAGUCUGAUCCACAUUGACUUUUAUCCAACUACAUAAUGAGCCUCUGCAUCCAGUCCCUGCUAUGGAGCAACCCAGAAAUUCCUUUACAUCAAAAGUUUCGAACUUCUUUUGUAGUAGGAAACUUUUGCGUACAUCAUAUGAGCCAGAGCAUAAUGUUAUUGGCACAAUCCAUUGCCCAUCACCUUGGGAACCACUCGAGUAGAAUUGUGUCUGCCAUUUAUUCGAAUAAAAUCUAAAUAAAUUAUCCAACAGCUUAUAUAUGCAUUAGAGCUUUCUUUCAGAAUUUCACUUGAUAAUCAAACAACAUUUGGAAGGAGGUAAACAUAAGGAACCUGGUCAAACUCCAAUUUCUGAUCUUUGACUUUGACAGAAAUAACCGGGUAACCCUUUUGCUGUGUCCAUGAAUUCAUUAGCUUGUUCACAGGUUCACCAGAUCCCUCCUGAAGCGCAGCCCAUAAAUCUUCUGUCUUUGCAUUUGAGGAAGCAUGCUUUGUUAUGUAUGAAGCAAGUGACCUCUAGAGGCAUGAAAAAAUAACAUGCAAUUAACUCUGUAACUUCCAUGAGAAAUGGAUUUAAUAAACAAUAGCCAAAAUUCAAAAGUUGAGGGAAAGAAUAUGAGACACACUUCAAACACCUUUAUCAUAUGAGCAAUAUAGCCUGAUUGAGCAAAAUUAGCUACAGUACAUAGUAAUAACUCUGCUGUUAUGAACAACAUAUAUAUCUGCACCAAGUAGGACUGUCAAUCAAGCCAGGCUGACCGUCUUUCCCUUAAUUCUGGUCUGUUAUGAUGAUUCAAGGUUGAUUUCUAGAACAUAAUUCCAAAGGAAUUCAUUUAUUGGUGUUCUCUACAAGCACCUAUGUAAUUUAAUUAUCUGUAAUGGAACAGAAUCAUCUUCCUCUUAUUUUGUAGGCUUUAUUUCAACAGAUAUUACAUAAAUGGUUACCCUAUUUCAUUAACAGUAUAACUUAUGGCAUACACAAAUAAGACCAAAGCCAUUAUGUUCAGUCUGGACCAUACUAACAUUAGAUCUAAUGGUCAAGAUCAGCCCAACCUCAAAUUCAUGCUAAAAUACUAUGAUUAAGCUCCACAUUGGACCAAAGAACUAGAUGUUGAGCUAGUUCAGUAUUCCACAUCACAAUCUAACAAUUUUCUCAAGAUCUCUAUCGUCCUAAAAUCCUGUAUGCCCAGAAGCCUUUAUUUUUUGGAAAUUUCCAUCACAUAAAUGUAAAAAUUUCAGAAAUAAGAUAGUUGCUUCAAUCUUCAAGGAUAUUUGCUAACAUACCAAAGGACCAACCUGGAAGCAUUCAGCACCAAGAUAGUUUUGUAGCAUCCGGAUAACAGAAGCUCCUUUUCUAUAACUUAUUGCAUCAAAUAUUUCAUCAACCUCAGAAGCAUGAUUGAUUUCCACCUGGCCAAAAAGAAGAAAGAUUAAAACAUAAUAUAGCAGAAACACUUAUAUUCUAAACCCUUCAAUAAAUGAUGCCCUGCAAUGUAGUGGUGAUCCAGGUUUGAUGCCACGAAACAGCAAAUUUUGGACAACAGAGUUAGAAUAAAACCCAUGAAAGACUUGGUCCACGUAGAAGUACCUCAAUGGGGUGAGAUCCUUCAAGCCCAUCCAGCUUAAGACCCAAAGUAAUUUCAUCAAGAAAUUUAGUCCACAUUUUCCACUCUGGGAACAAGCUAUCAGUAGCUAAAUAGCUCACCUAAUGGCGUUAAAAUACUUACUUUAAGUCCAAAAGCAAAUAAAAUAACAAGUACAACAAGUGAAAUGAAGUGAUACCCAUGUUGCAAACCCCUCAUUCAGCCAUAAAUGUGUCCACCAUUCCAUCGUUACAAGAUUGCCAAACCACUGGUGUGCCAAUUCAUGUGCCACGACAGUUGCAACCUUUCACAAAUUCCAAAUGAAACGAUUAAACAUUUCUUUAGGGUUCAAAAACAACAGCUACAUAUCAUAUGAACCAAGCUGAAUUCUGAAAGCUAGAGUGACAUUCAGGAUGUGUAUGUUACCCGUUGUUUGUUGGCAGCUGCAGAAUGCUGUUCAUCAAAGAGCAAAUCUGUUUCUUGGUAUGUAACUAAACCAUAAUUUUCCAUGGCACCAGGAAAAUCAGGGAUUGCAACCAUAUCCAAUUUGGGCAAAGAGUAUGGCACAGCAAAGUAACUGUCUUCGUCAAUGAUUCCAUUUUGAAUGCCAAAUAUAAUGAUGCAGAAUUAGCAGGGAAGGGAAAAAAAAACUAGAGAAACUACCACUUAUAAUCCACAACAUGCAUCAACUGUAAUUUCAAAUUUGAAUAUGAAUGAUUAGUAAUUUUUUGUAGUAUUGUGAUCCAAAAACAUACUCUCUGUAAAAUUCAAGAGUCUUGGCAGCAACGUUCAAAGCAAACUUCCCUUGGUUCGCCUUACCAACUUGACAAUAGACCCGCACUUUGACCCCUGUGACGAGAUGAAAGGUGACACCAUCAAGAAAAGGUUGUACUAACAUACACAAAACAAGGGACAUUGUGUAUGAGUUUACCAUCAGAUGUACGAUCUUCAACAUAAUCAAACAACCCAACAACAACGGCCACCAAAUAUGUAGACAUUAUUGGUGAUUCUUGAAAUGAAACUGUCUUCAGAUGUCCAUGCACUUUCUCUUCUACAACCGGCAUGUUGGAGAGAGCUACUAAUUCAGAUGGAACAUCAUCCAAUCUAAUCUUGAAUGUAGCCUGUCAAUCAAAGUUCCGAUAAGAAUGAACGGGGUCAAUUCAAUCUCUUUCUUUCCUAGUAGACUCAAAGAUGAAAUUAGAACUAUGUUAAGUAUCCAGAAUCGCUUUAAACAAAAUCAUUAUAGAGCAACCUUCCAAGCAGGCUCAUCCCAGCAUGGAAAGCACCGUCUGGCAUCAACCGGUUCAAAUUGUGUAACGGCCAUAUUUUUCUUCUCACCAUUAUGCUCAUAUGUACUGUACAGAAUGAAUCAAAGUUUAAGCAUAUCUGAAACAUAAUAUAAUCCAGAAUUCGAAGAGCACACCUUGUGUAGAACCCCUUCAUCUUGUCAUUCAAUUUUCCUUCAAACCCAAUACCCAAAACUCCCGAACCAACCGGAAGCGUCUCUCCAAACUCCAGAACCAAAAUCCCAUCUUCUUCAAAUGUCUCAACUUUCCAAGGCUUGAAAAUUACCUGCUCUCAGAAAUCAGAUGAACUUAGAAGCACUUCCAAAUGAACAUUGCUUUUCUUUUUCUUUCUCGAGUACAAUUGUACAAUUGUCCAAAGCAAGCAAGCAAAUGCAUCAUGCAUGGCAGCAGGGAUCAGUCAGUGGUACCUUGGAGGAAGCGAAAGACACGGAGGCGGCAUCGACGGAGAGGUCGGCGGCGUUGAGGACGAUGAACCGGGUAUCGCAGACGAUGUCGAGUUGGACGGCGACGGAGCCGCCGAAACUGCAGCCGGUGAGGUCCGGUUUGAGAGUUAUAUCGUAUCGUUUCGGCACGGCGAAUUUCGGCAGCCGAGACUGGCCUUUGAACUGCUCCAUCUCCAAGUGAAGUGCCGAGGACUUUGAAGUUAAAGUGCUGCACAUCUCCAAUUGGAAAGGCAGAGUCACGCUGACGACGACUAUAAUUUUGUUUCCUCUAUGAAUAUAAUUCAGUCUAAAUGAUAAGGGAGGUUGGAACUUGAGGCCACUAAUAUGCUAGAAAAUCAACUCUCAUUUUCACUGGCCUAGAUCAGUUAAUUGAUUUACUUAUUGAGUAAUGCUAUUUAACUUGUUUUAUUUUAUUUUAUUUUUUAAGGAAGAUUUUUGUAUUUUUAUUUUUAAAUUUCUAGGCAUUAUUGACAAAUAAAUAAAUAAAAUAGAACUUACGUGGCAAUAUUAAUUAGUUACCAUCAUCUGCCACGUCAACUAAUGUGCUGGGUAGGGCAAACACACUGCAUUGCCAAUUGGCUUAACUUGUUUGAGUCGGUUUUGCAUGUCUUAACACCACAUAAAAAGAAGUGAUUUACAGACCUUAAUAAGGAAACAAUUUAAGGCUUUGUAAUUGAUUGAAACCGGUUUAGAUUGGAGUUUUAUAUUUUGAAAUUUAUGAAAAUUAGUAGAAAUUUUAGCAAAAUAAAACCCUAGAAGUUGUAAUGUUUUUUUUUUUUGGGUCAAGAAAAGUUGUAAUGUUUUAUUCACAAUCAACGUAGACUAUUCUAUUAUCGAAAUUAACAAAUAAUAAAUAAAAAACCAUUUUAUAACAAGCCCACAAAACAAAGAAAAUUCUCAUCUCUAAUCACACAUAUUACAUGAUACAACAUAGGAGAUCAAAAAUUCAUGUAACCGAAGAUGCAGAAAUCUUAAUAUAUAAGACACAGGUCCAACAGAAAGAAUUGGCACAAUGCAACCAAACACAACGGCAACCCCGCCAGAAACCAACACCAACGCUGGCCGUGGCAUUAACGAUAAUACAUUAGCUGCUGACCUGAUGAACUGUUAGGAUAUCCCUCAUACAUAGGUUGGGAUCCACCAGAGUUCAAGGCCAUGGACGUGGCCGCAGCCUGACUUAAGGCAAGUUGGCGCCGAUAAGCCAACAAGUCAGCUGGAGAAUAGACUUGGUUCAUACCAGCAGCCGGAAGGAUCUGAUAGGGUUGGGCAGGAGGAGGCAGUGGAUUCGAAGUUAUCCCAGGAGGAGUUGGCUUGCUACCCCAUGAACACUGCAUGCAUGAUCACACAAAACAAUAGAUGUUUUUAUCAAGACACAUACACAGGCGCUUUGCGGAAACUAAUCGAAUGCACAAAAACCCACCAGAGGGUGAUCUUGUGCAUGUGCAUGUGCAUUGAAGAACAAUAUUAAGAAGGCAACAGAACCGUGUGACCAUCAACAUGAAAAGACCUUGCAGUAGAGAUUUUAUUACCUUCAUGGACUUUCCAUGAAUUAUCCUGCCAUUUGCCAUUUGAAUGGCCAAGGCUGCUUCUUCAUGAGUGUUGUAUCUCACAAAUCCGAAACCUUUAUCCCUCUGCACGCGUACUUCCUCAAUAACCCCAGCCCCAAGAGCAUGAAACUGACUAUGAAGUUCAGCUUGAGUAACCUGAAAAUACAGACCAGAUUUUCAGCAAGAUUUUAUGGCUAACAGCAUAUAGUUGUACCAACAGUUGAAAAGUUAUGUCAUAAGACCAAACUUAAGAUUUAAAACUUAAAUAUGAAACAUAAUCUAUCAACGUAGCCAGAAUCACUGUUUAAUCACCUCAUGGGAGAGGUUGCCAACAUAGACAGUAGUGUAUGCUUGAUUAUUUUCAGGGGCCUCUUCAUUGGAGUUCUCCUGACCUCCAUCUGCAAAAGAAAGGAAACAGAACAAGACAUCAACAUCAAGUCUGGUACGAACUUCCCACUCAAUCCUGGUAUUAUAAAGGACGGCAAUGUAUACUAUGAUCAACCAUCAACCUCAGACCUAUACUUACACUAGCAAAUGCACAAACUAAAUCCCUAUAACAAUAUCAGACCAACCAAAAAAAUUGCACUAUCAAAGUCAAACUCACUACUGUCAGUUUUUGUUACAUGAGACAACCAACAUCAGACUAAUUUUCAUUAAUUUGUCGAUCUGGUCAUAUUUCAUUAGCCAGAGGCGGAGAAAUGGAUUCAUCUCAGACUACAAUCAAUAAAUUCAAUAAUCUAAUACCUGAACCAGAUCCAUGUAUUAAGAGACUACAUCCUGACCCUGUUAUUAAACUUCAUCUUUGCUCCUUUGGCACAAUCUUAUCUCAAAAACCACAACCAUUAAAGUCCCAGAAGCCCUUGCAAGCAACCUCUGGCCUAACUCACCAAGGAUCCUACAUACUGUGGGCCAAGUCAGAAAUUUUCAUGAUACCUGAAGAUCCAUUAGUAAGCACAACGGCAUUUUGAGUGUCGCUAUUCUGCUUCUCUUCAUUGGAGCCAGCACUCUUAGUUGCCCAGUUGCAUCUUAUUUGUCUAUUUCCAAGCCAUUUACCUACAAAAUGGAGUCCAGAACACAUCAAACAUUAUGCACUAAUGGUAUCUUUCAAAACUGACCAAAAAAAAAACCAUGCAACAUGAGGCAACAUUUAGAUGUGUUACCGGUUAAAUCAUUGAUAGCACUCUGAGCAUCCUAUAAAGCAUUUCCAUGAGGCACUUAAUCAGUUCACAGAUAUUCCAGAGUAAACAACAUGUGGGAGGCAAUUUUUGGGUGGGAAGAAUCUCACCAAAACACUCUAAUUUCUAAUCACAACAACAUAACAGAUACCUGCUGGUUACGGAAAGAAACAAAACCAUAUCCUUUUGAGCGGCCAGUUUUGUGAUCCCACAUGACCCUUGCAUCACUGCAAACAAUAAAAAGGACAAAAGGAAAAAGUCUUGUAAACCUAACAUCAGGACAUUUAGAAUUUAAUAGGUGAUUCAAACUGUUACCCCACACCCAAGUGGAAACACAAAAUAAAUUCAGUCCUUAAACUGUAGUCAGUCAGUAACAUGAACAUUUGGUGAAAGUAAUGAGGUAAAACUAUAGCAUGCUACCCUAGCGCCUGGGAUAUAUCUGCUAAAACUUUGAAGAAAAAAAAAUGAUAAUCGAAAGAAACAGGAACUCACGAACAACUAGGAUAGACCGAGAAGCAAGCAAAUAAAGUUGCAUCUGUAACCUCUGGACUAAGAUCACCAACAAAUAUAUUGAAGUGCCCUGAUAAUUGUAAAAUUGCAUUAAAGGAAUGAACCCUAUAAAAUUGUAACAAGCAACACUAUCCGACAGCAGCAGUAGAACAACUGAAGCUCAAAGUAACCUGAAGUAUCCUCCCUCUGGCUAUUCGCAUAUGCCCAAUUCACUUUAAGUGCCUGACCAUAACUGCAAAUCAAAAUUAGAAAGACUAAUAAAUAUAAACCAUUUCUUUAUGAUGAUAACCAUUUUUAAAUAAUUAUAAAUAAAUAAAUAAAACACAGAGAGAGAGAGAGAGAGAGUUGAUGUUUAAUAUUGAAGUCAAGAAAGGCAUGAGAGUAACCACACUUGAUCUAAAGUAAGUGAAUGCUUACAGUUGGCGUCCAUGCAAUGUCAUUAUUGCAAGGGCUGCCGAAUUUCGAUCAUGGUAGUCAACAAAUCCAUAUGAUGACUGUAAUAAAAAAUAUACAGUCACAUCGUGAAGGGAAAUUCAUUAAGGGGAAAAUCAAUUUUGAAUAUGGAGUACUCAAUGUACCUUAUCCUUUCUGAUGAGCUUGCAUCCUGCAAGAGGACCAACACUCUGGAAAACUUCAGCAAGAAGCUUAUCGGUGACAUUUACGUGAAUGUUUCCAACAUACCUGAAACCAUCAUGCCAUCAGAAUUUAUCAGCAUUAAUUCAAAUGAAUAAUGUCCACUUUAAAUUUAAAUAAUUUGAACUUCUCAAAGUCACGAAGUCCACUUAGGCUAAAAAAAUUUCACCCCGACUAACAUAAAGAUGAAUGCAAAGGAAGACAAAAGACUCCAGAAAUAGAGAAAAACAAAAAAUCCAUACAGCACUUACACACUGUGGCAUGUAGAUGGGUCAAAUCCGGGAGGCAGAUUUCCACUUGGGAUAGGCUCCAUCUGCACAUUGUAAAAAUAGAAAGAAGAUAAACAAAAAAUCCUAGCAAAUCUAAGAUGGUACCAUACAUGAAACCGUCCCCAAACAUCCUAAGUAAAAGCACCAAGUACGGAGAAAAACUCUGGCAACAAAAAAUACAAACUUAAGCCCCCAACCAAAAACAAAUGUCUUAACAAAUGAUAUUUCCUGUUCUGAUGAAUUACAUAAAGUUUGAGUGAAUUAGGUGAUACCCAAUAACUCAAAUCAUCUAUUUUUGUGAUCAAAGCAGGCAAGCAAGCAAGCAUACAAGCCAUACAGAGAGAGAGAGAGAGAGAGAGAGAGAGAGAGAGAGAGAGAGUGAUGGGACCUGAGACAUGGCAGCGGCGAGCACACCAGGAUGGUACAUGUGCUGUUGUUGUUGUUGCUGAAGAAGAGCUUGCUGCAUUAUGGCUUCUUGUUGUUGCUGUUGCUGAAGCUUCAAUCUUUGUUGCAUAUUAUUAUACUCCCUACCCAAUUUUUUAUUUUUUAUAAAUCAGAACAAAGGCAGAUCACCCAUUAAUCCAAUGUUCGAAUCUCGAGCAGUGCAAGAAUACACAGAAAAAAGUUCGAAUUCAAUCAUCAAAUUCCCAAAUUCUGCAACUUUCCUCUGAAAAUCAUUUGGGGGUUCUUAAAAAACUGAACUUUUUCACUCGAAUGUAAGAAUCAGAGUGUCAGAUAAGAUAAUUCAGACAAAUCUUAACAAGAAAAUAGAAACCCAAAAAGAAAAAAAACAGAAGAAAGAGAAAAAAAGAAAAAAAAAUUGAAAGAGAGGGAAGAUAGGAACCUGAGGAGGUGAUGGGUAGAAUUGGAGCGAAACUCGGUGUGGCUCUGUUGUUGUUGUCUUCUGUCGGAGAAACUUUCUCACAGUGAAAGGCUAAAACCACAUGACUCGGGUUCGGGUAGAAUAAGACUGUCCUCCUCAUUAAUCAUUAUUUUGUUUUUCUCACUCCCAAAAUUGUCCUUUUUGUUUUUUCUUUUCUUAAAAAAAUCUAUUUUCAAAAUUUGUUUGACCUCCCAAAUUAAUUAUAGAAGAAGGAUUUUUUUUUUUUCUUCUUCUUUGAAAUGCAUUAUUUUUUAUUUUUAAAAAAAUUAUAGAUAUUUACGAAGUUUGUAGGGAGACUUUGGAAAAGCCCAAAGGAGAGAGAAAAAUUUUAAAAGAAGCCAAAAUGGACAAAAUUGCCCUUAUUUAUUUUUUGAUUUCCUAAGGAAUCCUUUACAUUUGCAUGUCUUUGGUUUGAAAGUUGAGAGGUUUUUCUGUCUUUUUUGAAAAAGCUUUGGCUUUUUCCAAAAGUGAAAGUUUUUUUAUGAGUAAAACCCUUUUCUUAUCAAAUUCAAUUUUUAGGGAAAAAAUGUAUCAUUUGAUCAGAAAAACAACAUUUCUCCUCCUAUGGUCACACAUGUCAUGUCAAGUCUAUAUUUUAUUAGUUAAAUACAAUUAUUUGUACUCCAUUCUCAAAGAAUCUUUAUCUUUCUAUGUUGAUUAUUUAUUUUAUUUUAAUUCAGUAUAAAAGCUUCUCUCUUUAUAAGACCGAUCAUGCCAAACAUGGUUGGUGAGAGCAAAAUAAAUAUUAUACUUUUUUGGACUGUUUUCAUCACACCUAAAAUUACCAAAUAUCCACUAAUUGCAAAUGGGCUCUCUGACUUUCAUGAAACCACAUCUUUUUUUAUUUGGAUCAAAUGUCAUAACUCAUAACAAUAUAUCAAAAAUUGAACUUAAAUACUUUACAAAGAUGCGAUUUCAUGCCGGCGACUUAAAUCAAGCCAAUGAUGAACUAGUUUAUAACCUCAAAUUUGGAACAUGGCUAAACCUUUUGGCCAAACAUUUGACCUAGCUACCAAUUACAAGCUAAACUUAGUACUGUUUAAUCCCUCACACUAAUGUUUACGACACCGAUAUCUUCCCGCGUAUAGUAGAGACUACAAAUGCAGGUCAGUGCACAGAUUUAGGCCAUUUCUUUUGCAGUAUGAAGUAUACACACCUCUCCGUUUGCUAUCGGAAGAACACCAGCAUCCAUUUUGAGUUGAAUCACUUUGAGGGGGACAAUAAGUGAAUGUUCAUACAAAUUUAUUUGCAAAAGGUCAUUGUCAUCAUAGGAAAGGGUAGCACUUCUGUAUAAUGAAGCAAGGCUACACGGCUUCCAACAUGACUUCUUCUUCAACCUUUGGUUUGCUCUUAGGUCGACCGGAUCGUCUUACAUUACUGCUUGACAAAAGCUCCAAAGCAUCUUCCAGGGUGAUUUCACUGGGCUUCUUAUUCUGCAUGUGUAAUGAAGAUACCCAACUUAUUAAAUUUGGUAAGGAAUAAGAAUUGGUGAAAUAUUCUCUCAACUCUUUGACAACAGAAUUCUGAAUGUAUAAAGUUAAAUAAAUGAUCUUAUUAUAGUUCCAUUGUGGUCUUAAAUCUAUAUAAAAAUGGGAUCAAACCGAUACAAUACGCGUUGUGAUCCAAAGAGAUUUCCUCAGAGAAAUGGAAGGAACAUGUAUCACAUGUGGAAAAUCUAGUUGCAUCUCCAAGUUUUUCCUCGGAUAAAAACAUAUAAACUAUUAAUUACUAUUGCUAUAAACCAAGCUCGUAUUUUAACUCCAUUACCUUGUAGACCUUAGGAACAGAAGCAAUUGUGCGCCGAUGUCUAACUGCAAACCCAACCCUUGCCACCUUUAUAAUCACCGGUUGCCCAUCCUCUGGAUGGUUACCCUGAAAUGAAAUUAAAACACAUAUACAGAGAACAAGAGAAUGAGUUCAACGAUGAUGAAGAGGAAACAGAACUCAGCAGAGCAAAAUGGAAAACAAACCAAUGUCACAGGAUAGCGCAUUAACUCCAGAGCAUCUUCAAGGGUAAUUGAACCUACAUCCUUUAUCUGAAAAGUGAUUCCACGUAAAUAUAAAGAUUACAGAUUUCAAAAAAAAGCAUGGUGCAUUUGCCAUACACAGUGCACACAAAGAAAAAAAAAAGACAAAGAAAAAAGAAAGUAAAAGGGUUGGUAAAAUUGAACUAAGAUUUUCUCUUGGGUAGGCAUGGAAAUCUUUGUUAGCACAUGAAUUAACUCGUAUAAAUCACAUGCAAGCAUACAAGCACAUACAUACUUAACUAUUAUGAAUAUGGUUUUGACAGCAUUAUUAAAAUCAACUCCAAUAAUGGCAAGAAGAUGUGUAGAUAAACAUCUCAAAGAUCCGCAUAGAACCAAACAAAAGGAAAAAAAAAGUAUCAUAUAAAACCAGAAUAAAAAGUUCCAAUGUUUAGUUACAGUGUAACUUUUACAUACAUGGGAUACAGAGGCUCUUUUAGGUGAGUUUCCCUUCCUGUCUUCACCAAGUUGUACAUAGGAUCCAUAUGGACCAUUUUUCAAAAGAACCUGAAAGGCGACAUACAUUUUUCUUUAAUGUAAACAUAACUUACAAUAAUAAACUCAAGCAAAGCUAAGGCUCCAGUGGACCCUAAACCAACUAUAGAAAUAUCAGAAUUCAAAACAAACCUUUUCAUUGGAACCUGGACUAAGACCUAGCACUUUUGGUUCCUCCAUACUGCUGUUCUUCGGAGUACUCUCUUCUUCUUCAUCAUCACCAUAUAAUGUCUUAGCAAUGUACCUAUUUGCAGCAACCAAAUGAACAUUGAUAACUUAUGGAUGGUGAUUUUUCUUUCACUACAACUAGGACAAAUUUAGACCAACAAAAUGCAAGUUAGAAUUAUAAGAAAGCUCUGCUAUUUCUAUUGCCUAAUAUUAUAGAAAGAAGCCAUGUCUGAUAACUGAAAGACAUGCAAGUUGAAAUUAUAAGAAGGCUCUGCUAGUUCCAUUGCCUAAUGUUAUACAAAGGAGCCAUGUCUGAUAACUGAAUCUUUCUUUUCACUGUAAGCGACCUGGAAAAUACAUAGGGUUCUGUUCAGUGUUCUAAAGUUUAGGUGAAAUCCCCUUUCAGGGUCUAUUGAGGGCCAGGGCUUGCUAGAGGGACAACCCUUGUGGUUGUGUAUGUUGUUUGCCAUUCCAUUAGAAUUGGCUUGCCAACUUUUCACAUAUAUGUAGGCCCAUGGGCAAUGGCCAAACAAUGAAAUUGGCCUUUGACCGAUACUGGGUUGUUUCCUUUCGUAUUUUGUUACUCGUUCUAUUCUUUGCAUUGGACCGUAAUUGUAGUGCUACUGGCAACAGAAGGAUCAAAUGACCAUAUUGCCGCACAUGCAUGAAAUUAAGUUACACCAUAGCUUUUCAUACUCACUUGCACUUUGGGUGUUGAUCACAACCAAUAAAAUAGCCUGCACCGAACCGACUCACUUUGAAAAUCAAAUUGCCUUCCAUACAACUGAAACAUGUAUAAGUGAAGAUUGUAAUAUGUAUUAGAAACGGUGCUCAAGAAAACAAUUUCAUGUGUGCAGAAGAGUAGAUAAGCCAUCAAAACAGCAUCCCAGAAUCAAAUCUGAACUGCAGAAAACUUAAUGAGAACUAGCCAUAUCAAGAAGAAUUUCAUUAAACCAUAUGCAUACCAUGGGCAUGUCCUGCUUUGAUCGGGAAGAGAAGCAAACAAGAAGUCUCCAAAUUUUUUUUCCAUCAUCUUCUCCACCUGAGAUAUUAUAUGGCUUAUAAUGAAUACGAAAGUUCCUAUAAGGAUAUUUUACGAAAAGAAGGUUAUGUUUAACGAAGACUAAACCUUACCUGAUGAAUAUGAACAGUACUGGUACGGUCACAAUAAGCGCUGAAUCGGGUCCAAUAAUCUCUAAGGAGGCCCUUCCAUUCAGUUAAGCCAGCAGAGACAUUAUCAAGCUGGUGAGAGACAUAAAGAAGUCAAUCACCAGUAACAAAAAAUGUUCGGGUAAUCAAGUACAUCAAAUAGUUAACAAUGGAAGGUGAACAGUAUUGCUUGAUUGAGCCCAACAUAUAUCAAAAUCAUGUAGCUACAGCAACCAAAUUAAGAAACUAUUUUAGGCAAUGGGAGAGAGAUUAUACAAAAUAUUUUCUUUUUCGUGUUGAAACUAAAGAAACUUUUAUUGAAAAAGAUUAUAUUCAAUAUAGAUUUACCUCAGUCUCCAUAUCAGCAGUAAAACUAUAAUCUGUAACCUCGGAAAAAUGGUGGCCGAGAAAUGCUGACACCUAAAGGUAACCAGAACAAUAAAAUAAAUUGAGAGGACGAAUGGGAUGUCGAAGUAUUUCAUGGACACAACAGUAAAAUGUUAAGCAUGCUCUUCAACUAAGAAUUACUGAUAAUUUAAUGCAAAACACAACAGUAAGAGAAGUGUAAGAAGAAAAUUAAUUAUAAAGGGAACCAAAAAGAAAAACCAAAACCCCACAGAUACACAACCAUCUAAAAGUUUUGAUAGGAAAUACAGAAUAAAAACUAGGAUGAAAAGUAAACCAAUAAACCAGGAAAUAAAUAAAUAAACAAGCACCAGUCAGACAUGACCAGUGUUAGAAAUAGAAAAUUUCACAUAACAAUGGACUUGCAUGUAGCCACAAGGGAACAUGUAGAGAUCUUUUCUAUUUCUCUAACGUCCAUAAAACCAGAAGGAAUGCCAGAACAUACCAUACGACCACGAAAUUCUGGAUGUAACACACGGCUUUUCACUGUCACAUAGUUUCUAUCCUGGCACCACAAAUAAAUGAGAAGUCAAAAUAUUGUUAAGUUAUAAAUCGAAGUAAAUUAAGACAUUUGCAGAGAUGGCUGUUAAGAGACAAAUUUAUUAAAAAUUAAGACAUCAUUCUCAAGAGCAUGCUUAUUGUGAUGAUAUGAGAUAACUUACCAGAAUACAUGUUGAAACUACUGAAAAAGGGUUCUCAGGAGAUGAGAUAAAAAUAACUAAAGAAAUUGUGCUUUUUUCAAACAGAAGAAUACAUUAGAAAAAUAUCAUCAACGAAAAACCUGGCUAUGUGAACAUCAUCACAUACCUGUAAAACUUUCAAUGUGCUUGCAUAAGUUGAAGGUCUUCCAAUCCCAAGUUCCUCCAAUUUCUUAACCUUAUAGCACACAAAACCACAAAGGUCAGAGAACCAAAGCUAAACAGAAAAGAAGGGCACAAUUUGAACUCGAAAAUUUAUAGUGAGCACUAAAAAUAAAAAAGGAGUUCAAACCAUGUUCUGGUAUAAUGAAAAAUUAUAAAACUUUACCAACGAUGCCUCAGAGUAGCGUGCAGGAGGUUGAGUGUGGUGUUCCUUGAGUUCCACUUUACCAACGUAUAAUGGAUCCCCACGCUGCAGAACCAAAAUAAAGCACAUAUUCAAGCAACAUCACGUGGCCCGCCAAUGCAAAUUUUACCGAUAAAAAUUAAUUUCUGAUGAAAUUGAUCAACAGACUUGGAGUCGAAAUUUACCUUCAAGGAAUUAAGAAGUCCAAAACCUUCAUUACGACUGUUCCCUUCAUUUUCUUUAUACUUGACUGCCUGAGCUUCCACGUCCUAAAAUUAUAAAUUAGACAUAUUGGACAAUCUCACAUAAAAGCAUGCAACAAAGUGCCAAUUUAAAAUAGGGUAUAUAGCAUCAAAUGAAUCACAUGUAAGUGAAACUAUAUGAACAAGAGGCAAUUUACUCUCCAAAUCCUCACAUAUUUGUAAAAUUUAGAUCCAAUGACUAAUAGAUAUGAUGAGUUCAAGAUAUCAAAAGUUAAACUGACAUAUAAACUCGUAAAAGUAGCAACGUUUUGAAAAAUCAUGGGCAUUAAAGCCCAUUUUUAUAAAGAAAAACAUAUCAAAAUUCAUUCUAUAACUCGGGAAUAUUAAGAAGAUUUUGUUGUUUACCAAAAUAAAAUAGCAGAUUCAAUUUAUUAAUUAAGGAUUCCCAUCAGUUUGAACCACACAUAAUUAUGAAAUUGCAAACAGGUAUGAUUGUGGCACUCCAGCCAAAUGUACAUGCACAUUUUAUGGUGUUUACAACCAUACUAAGAUGGAAAAUAGAUUAUACCUCAAAGACUGCCUGAUAUCCAAGGAACUCAACCCUUGAGCAUGAAGAUCGGAAAACAAUGGACUCGCCCGCAUUUCCAAUAUCAAGUUGUAUCUGGUAAGAUUGAUGGGGCAAAUAAUUAGGCAAGAGAUGGAUUUGCAUUACAUACAUAUGACUGAACAUAAGGACCAGGAUAUGAGAAAAAGUCAACAAGUUAAUGCAUUUUCUAUUUGACUGCUAGUCACAUCACUUGAAUGAGAAGAAUUUUCAUAUGUUUACAUUCUAACCUGCUCAAUUGUAGCAGGCUCCAUUUGACAUGCCACUGUCCGACACCAAAUAAGAGUGUACAACUUCAAUGAAUCUUCAUCAAGCAUCCCACGGAACAAGGCUAAAUGCCAAGUAGAAAAUUUUAUGGUCAAUUCACUUGAAAGAGACUAGCAAAUGAAAUGAACAUCUACAAAACUUGCAUUAGAAAAAUGUAGAAAUUGUCAUAUAGCAUGCAGAAUUAUUUACAUGGCAAUCUUCGAACAUCAGUUGGUCUAAUCGCUUCAUGGGCCUCUUGAGCAUUCUUCACCUUUUUAAAAAAUUUGCGUGGACUUUCUGAUGCAAAAUUCUGUCCAUACCUGCAUCAAAGGAAUAUUGUUUGUAAGGGACACAAACAAACAUAGAGAUCUCAAAAAAUAUAUUAGAAUAUGACUAAUCAGAUUUCCAUGCAAGCAAAAAAGGUCUAAGUUUUAAGUUGUAGGGUGACAAAAACAUAAAAUAUAUUAGAAUUGUAGUGGAUUGAACAAACAAUUGAAACAUGGGCAACUUGUUCAGGACCCUGGGAAAAUGAACUUGUAUUUAUUAACUCAUAAAAACCUACUUAUAAAUACAAUUAAAUUCAAAUUACAAAUAAAUAUAUGUAGAAAUGACAUUUAUCUCCAGCACCUUUGAAUUACCAAGGAGCGCACAUCCUUACAGGCUUCAUCAGAAAUCUGUAGAAUUUAAAAACAAUAGGUAUUAGAAAUAACUAACGAAUCUCAACCUCAUUUAGACAUGAAUAAAAUAGGCUCAAACCAUGGAUCUUUGAGGCAGUGUAAAUCAUGUGCACAUAAGAAGACAAUCAGCAUAUAAUAAAGUAUGAGCUAUCAUAAAAAAGAAAUGCAAGUACAAUUAUAUAUUGAAGCAAACUCAACAAAUAAAACUAGCAGCUUCAAAACGUUUAUACUCGCCCAAGGAAGCUCAUGCUUUUACGUUAUGCAGUAUAAAAAAUACCAAUGUGCAAUUGAGCAAUUGAAAACACAAGACAAGGAUACCCAUUCUGCAUGAGCAUUUCAAUUAAGUUCUGAAAAUAAUUAAUUAGAAAGAACAAUGUUAUAAUCAAGUAAAAAAUUUAUUUCACAAUUGUCCUUUCACAUUAGACAAAAAGAUGCUUAGUAGGUCAAAAGCACUCUUACAAAUUAGUUGAAAGCACCAAGUGGAUUUCUCUUUUACGUAAGACCAAUAAAAUAAUUGUUCUUAAUGCAGCACACAAAGGAAUUUUAAACGAUAUAAAAAAAUAUACAGUACUUGCCUUGAAGGGGAUGAGAUGAAUUUAAAAAUCAUUUGAUUAAAUGAAUUACAGAAGUACGCAGUUACAGUUACUUGAAAACCAAAGUGAGUUAGAAUCUAACGAAAAGUUAGAAAUUCAGUAUAUUCAGAGGUCAUUAAAAACUGAUCACCCAAAGAGAAGCAAUACAAAUGUGCAGAAGGAACCUAGCCACCAAAAUCAUCUGACAGACAACAAGAAACUUAAUGAACUAACACGCACUAAUAUUCAUGCAGCCAAAGUGAUACCUACGUGUAGUCCAUCUGUUCUCAUGUAUGUGAUCAAACCCGCUGCCUUACCAUCUGAUAAUUGAACCCCCUCAUAAAGUUUCUGUGCAAGCUGCAUACAUAAUGUAACUUCCAUGAGCCACAUACAUAUUCAAAAAGCAAAAAAAAAAAAAAAAAAAAAAAAAUCUACACCUACCAAUUCAAAGCAUGAAAUCAAAAGGCAAACUGAAUUAAAGGACAAAAUACUGACUAGAACAGAAGAGGAACAUCGAAAAUAAAUAACAACUCUUCCUGGUUAUGGAAAUAUGUUGCACCAGGACUACAUAUGGUAUUGCACAUCCGAUUAAGAAAAAAAAUCAGAACAGAGAAUUCAUCAUUAGGGUGGUUUUGUUUUGAACAGAGGUCUUUCUGCAGGAGAGGGUGGUGGGGGUUUAAAUGAGCAAUACUACCAAAUAAUUGGUUAUGGUGGAUAAUACUUUUAAGAAGUUUAUGACUUUAUGUGAAGAUAAACUAAAGCAGAAAGACAAACAACAAUGUCCAAAGUGUACCCUUAUAGUCAUACAACAUUCCAUAUGGACUGGAUCAGUCAAACAGCCAUUACACAUAUGAAGAUCAAAGUUGAUCAACAAUGAUAGGCAAAAAUAUCCUCAACAGCAUACGAAACGAACCAAAACCUAAUACAAAAAACAUAAAUAUUCUGAAGCAGUGAUAAUAAUUUAAUUAAAUGUAAAAUUCAAUUUUAGCUUAGAUGGAAAUCAGAAGAUAAAGGCCCCCAAACCCAAACCUUCAUUGUAUAUGCUGCACUGAAAUGUAAUUUGUUUGCCGCAUCCUGUUGAAGUGUUGAUGUUAUAUACGGUGUGGGAGGAUUCUUCCGCAUUUUGUUUUUCUUAGAGCUGACCACUUGAAAAUUUUGUGAAUUAAUCUGCUGUUCAAUUUCUUUUGCCUUGGUAUGAGAGUCAAUAGAAAAUUGAUUUAACUUUUUGGAAUCAAAAUGGGUCAAGUGCGCUGAGAAGUCUGGGGCAUUUACUGAUGAACCUGGUUCUUUUUGGUUCAAUUCAAUCUCAGCAGUCCAAUAUUCCUGCUGUUUAAAUUCAUCAAUUUCCAUUUCUCUGUCACAUAGAAGAGCCAGUGCAGCAGAUUGGACUCGCCCUGCAGACUGGCAACCUGGUAGUUUCCUCCAUAACAGUGGUGAAAUGUUAAAUCCAAUCAAGUAAUCAAGAGCACGUCGGGCAAGGUAAGCAUGGACCAAGUUUUCAUCGAUUUCUCUUGGAGCUUGCAGAGCACUUUUGAUAGAGGUCUCAGUGAUUUCAUGAAAGACAACCCUUGCUACAUUAAUAUCUUCACGUAAAGCAUCCUGUUGUUGCAGCAUCUCAAUAAUGUGCCAAGCAAUAGCCUCUCCUUCACGAUCGGGAUCUGAUGCAAGAAUAAGAUUUUCUGCUCUGAUGAACAAUGUAAAACAAAUAAGAAAAUUCAAAAAACAUACCCCAAAAAUUGAAAAUAAAAAAUAGAAAUGCUUAAGUUACUGAAUUCAAUAUCAGUACUAUACACCAGCAUCCUAGCUUAGAAUGAAUGCCCACAAAAAACGCAUCUCAUUAGUUUCCAACCAUAUGGGGAACCUUAACAGCCUCAUAAUCACAGUUGCUUAAGGCCAAUUGGACGUGAAUGAAAAUGAUAAAGAACCAUACCCAGUUAGUGCAACCUUUAUGCUCUUAAGAUGAGUCCAGGCAGCAGAUGGAACUUCCCACACCAUACUAAAAUCAUCAUCAGGCCUUACAGAUCCUGACCUAGCAGCCAAGUCCCUUACAUGACCAUAGCUAGGCAGCACUUCAAACAUAUCACCAAGAUAACCCUGAAUAACCUUUGCCUUUGUAGCAGACUCCACAACCACGACAGUUCUCCCAGUCGCGGGGUACAGCUGCUUCAGUGUCAUUUUUCCUUGAGGUUUCACUUUGCCCAUUUUUUGUGGUAUAUGUUUCUGGGGUGACUUGGAAUCUGAAGUUAUAGACUUUCCCUUUCUACUAGAGUUCCCACUUUUCUUCUUUGGCUGGGGUUUUAUUGAAGAACCAUCACUAAUUUCUACAGGCACUUUUCCCGUGAAAUUCAACUGAAAGACUGCAGUGUUAGUUACAAUAGUGCAAUGUAAAAAUAAGAUUCAAUCCUAAUUCUACUUGAAAAUUUAUAGUUGCUGACCUCUGAAUCCUGUGCAGAUUUUUUGCCACUUUUGGUACUACCAGAUUUCUUUGUUUGAGAAGUACCUUUAGAACUUUGUGUCGCAGCAGCUUCUGCUGGGGCAUUAGCAGCAGAAAUUUGUUCUUUAGUUUUCUUGCUUUUCGACCUCUUUUUUCCUUUGACUUUAGGGACAUGGUUAUCAUUGAUUAUAAGCGAAUUUGAAAGGAAAGAUCCCAGUUUUCCAUCUCCCUUCUCACUUCCAAUCUGCCGUUCAGUUGAAGCUUCUACAUCAACAUCUUUGGAGAUGCUUGAAAUGGUAGCUUCGUUUUUGCUUUGAGCCGCCAAUGCCUUUUCCCUUUUCCUCCGUUUACUGAGCUGUUUGAAAAAAGAUGUACUUACAGAAUACUUGCCAUUUUGGGCACCAACACUCUCUAAUUUGCUUGUCACAUGUGGAACUUGAGAAAAAAACCUCUUGGCAAAACCUCCAAUGCUAUAAUUAGCUACACUUCCGAAAGACCCGGGACUGAUAACAUUACCAGGACCCAAAGAAUUCAGGGAACCAGGUUUUAAAUUAGAGAAGGCACGUUCAGACCCAUCACCACUUCUUCUGAAAGAAUGAAAACUAGGUCCAACCUUUGCAGGGUUUAUCAUGAUCAUGCAAGAACCUCCAGAUUUUUUUAACUUAAGCUGAGAAUAAUUUCUGUAUUUACUUGCAGUCAAAAUCGGGGAAGAUGGCAAGCAAACGCAUGGGUAAGUCUCAAAUGCCCUGUACUGCAACUGUUACACCAAUUGCACACAUUAGAAUACGAUUUUCAGAGAAACAGCAUACGUAAACAAAUUGUGAACGCAUUGGCACAAGCACACACAUACACACACACACAAAAUUUGACAUGUUGCACUAGCUUGAAUAUAGCACAUUUAAGCAAACCCAACGAAAAUCUACGCUUAAUAUUUGUAUUAGUCGAUAAAUUAGCCCAGUCAAUGUGAAAAAGCUACAGACUUGAAUGUCCCAGCAACCCAAAACAGACCAUGGCUUUAAUUACAGCUAGAAUUAGUAUCAUCAUUUCGGGCUUUGAAGGAAGUGGUCCUCUGAGAAAAGCAAGAAAUUGAAGGAAAAUCAAAUAUGAAAAUAAAAGAACAUGAUUGAUGUUUUACUAAGCAAACAACAAAAGAAACGCAAAGUGGGAACCUUGGCCAUGGAGCGGCGGAGUCGCAGAGCUGAAGAAGCUAACGUGUUUGAGCAAACGAAUGAAGAAGCAGAUGAAGUGGGGGCGGUCAAUGAUAAGGUCCUUUGAAAAUGAAUCAUCGCCAUACCAGUUUCAUUUGCUUGACGCAAAGAUAAGAGAGUUUUCGAAGGGUGAGGCUAUAAAACGAAGAGGGUUUUUGAGGGAGGGUUUUAGGGCAUGUUUCAGACACUGGUAAUGGUUCGGGUACGGGCCUCCAAAUUUGAUCCGGUAGUUAAUGGCCCAUUUCAGAUGGGGUGGUGUUGUAUUGACAAAAAUGGCCCUGGAGCCCGACCCAAAAAAAUGCCCUUAAAAAAAGUCAUAAUUUGACGAACUGGACGGCAUAGAUGACAUUGCUGUGCGGAUUACAAAAUUUUAGAGGACAACAUUGAUCGAUUUUAAACAUUGGGGACCAAAAUGAUGAGUUUUGAAAACGUCAUAUACCAUUGGCAAUGGAAAUUGUAAAUUUUUAAGUACUUUCACUUUUUUUCUUUUGUUGUCUUGUAUUUAAUUAUGAUAUCAUUUGACGUGCAAGAUUGGAUUAUUUUUCAACAUAACACUAGAUUUUAUAGUGUAAAUUAUAAUCCUCUCGAAACCUCUAACUCGAAUCCAAAUUCUAAAUCAUGACCUUCCAAGUCACAAAUUUCGAUCACCAUUGAAUCUCGAACUUUAAACUUUAACCUUUGAAUUUGAACUCCCACAUUUGCACUCAAUAUUGUCCUCAAAGUCAACCCUCAUACAUAUUUUAAUACCCAAACUUCAAUCCAAUUUGAAUAUGAAUUGAAAAGUUCAUGCCAAAUUAUUGAUUAUAAAGUUCAUAUCCAACCCUAAACUCGAACCUUAAAUCCUGUGUUAUAAAUUUUGAAAUUUUAGUCAAAUCCUUAAUUAUUUGGGCAAGCAUGAAAUGGGAUUUUCAAUCCCACUCCAACAAACCUCCCGGGGGGUUUAAGAAAUGUGAAGCAACUCUCAAUCUCUUCUUUUAAACUAUUUUAUUUUAUUUUUACUAUGAGGAAGAAUAGAAUGACUUAUUUUAAUCAUAACUCAUUACUUCACCAUAGCUCAACAUUUCAACCAAACCAAAACUUAAUAAGACCAUAGCUCAGCACUUAAAAUUGUAAAAUAAAUUAAAGCCGAGAUUUUGGAAGGAAGAAAAAGAAAACCGGAGGACAGUAAAAUUUGGAGGUAAAAUGGGAAUUUCUUAGAAGAUUUGGAUUCCUUUUUAUUAUUUUGAAUAAAUUACUCAAAUGGUCCUCAAAUUUAUACCUGAUUUACAUUUUGUCCCUCAAUUAAAUUAUUCGUUCAAAUAGUCCAUCAACUCUAUAUAAUUAAUUGGUCAUACCGUUACAUUCUGUCAAUAUUUCCAUUAAAUAUGAGGACAAAUUGGUCAUUUCGUCUAUCAUCUCUCUCUUCUUCUUCUUCUUUUGAACAAUCCCAAACCUAAUUAUUUGCUCAUAAACAAGCAAUGCAGUGUGACUUUGGCCGUUUCUGACCAAAUUACUCAACAAAGAAUUACAAGACCUUAAACUCGGAGAUCGACCGCACUUACCCAUAUUGUCAAACACAUGCAGGCAUACUUGGUCAUGCCCUUCUCUACAAACACCUUGAGAAUCAUAUCGAAAACAGUGGGUGAAAACGUAAAUUCCCUAUAAAUCCUAACAAGCUCAUCCUAGACCAAAGAGGUUGAAUAAUUAUUGUUGCAAAGGCUGACCAAUUCGUUCAAAUACGCUUUGGUUUGAUUGUACAUUUGAGCUUUGGACAAUAUAUGUACAAUUAUACCAUAAGACUUUAGGUUGGGCCUAAAUUUUCGCUGCUUUGAAGCCAAUUUGAAAAAACUUAAGCAGGCUACCGAGUUUAGCUUCAGUUUUCGGAGGAUGGUGUUGAGGAGCUUGUCGAAGACCACCUCUACCAAGACGGCUGGGGCACAGAUCCUCUUAGCCAAUGCUUGCUAGGGGUACGUUCAGGGGUAAAAGAGAAAAGAGCGGAGGUGGAGUGGGGGAUUUGUACGCUCUGCGUCAUGGGUUGCUUCUCAUGUGUUCGAUGAAAUGCCCGAAUGAAUAUAGAACUGGAGAUGAUGUUGAACAAAAAUCCAGAGCCUAAGAAAUGCUUUAUAAUGCGGGCGGAUGACGUUGGAAAUAAAAGGCAAUUCGAUAGAGAUGGGAUUUUGCUGAAUGAAUUGAGAGGUCAGUGGAUUAUAAAAUGAGAGAUAAAAAAUGGUGUGGAUUUGAUUUUAUUUUUUUUUAUGAUGGGUCUGUUCUGGGUGAGUUCUAUGUCUGUUCUUAGGAUUAUAAAUUUAUUUAUUUUUAUAUCUCAUUUUCUUCAAUUUUUUCUAAUUUUGUAUUUAUUUUAACCCUAUUUUUAUUUGUUAAUUAUAAAAAAUCAUAUUUAUCCUAAAAUUUGGUUAAAUCGAAGAAAAAAUUAGACAGUGGGAUCAAUAGAGCAAAUAAUCUAUAGAGUUGAUGGACAAUUUGAACAAAUAAUUUAAUUAAGGGACCAAAUGUAAAUCGAGUAUAAAUUUAAAUACCAUUUGAGUAAUUUAACGUAUUAUUUUAAAUUUCUAAUUUCAUAUACACAAUUCAAGCGCGACAAGCCCUAACACCCCCGUCCGAACCAGGGGACUGAGCUUCCCAAAAAUCCCCAAAUCAAAAUUCUGCUCAACAAAGAAGCAGAAUUAUCACUCAGAACACAAAACAGCUUCUACCGUUUUUCUUUUUUCUGGCAGUCAACGGCACGCAAUGGAUCGGCAGCCGCACGAUUACGCCUCCGCCUCCGCCAUGGCCUACGCCCAACAGCAGCGCCAAGCAGCCACCAACAUCCAACAGCAACAGCAGCAACCGCCCCAGCAGCAGCAAUUCGGGUACCCGCCCCCACAAACCCAACAGUUCCACGGCCAGCCUUACGUGGGCCCACACCCCUCUCUCCAGCAACAAUUCCCCUACCACCCUCACUUGCAGCAGCCGCAGGUCCUCCCCCACGCGCCGCAACACCCCCACCACCUCCCUCCGCCUCCCUCCUUUGCCCCCCACCUCCCCCCUCCUUUAGUCCCCUCCCCCUUCCACUCCGGCCCCACUUACGACUCUCCGCCUCCGCCGCCACCGGCCGCCCCUCCAUCCGACCCAGAGCUCCACAAGCUGAUCGACAAGGUCGCCGAGUACGCCGCCAAGGUGGGGCCGGAUUUCGAAGCGACGGUCAGGGAGAAACAGCAGGACAAUCCCGAGUACGCCUUCUUGUUCGGCGGCGAUGGCCACAGCUACUACCGCUACAAGCUCUGGAUAUCGAAGUGGGGCCCCGGCGGGUCAUUCAACCAGCCCGGGUUCCCCCCUGCAUCCAUGCACAUGCUGCGACCUCCGCCGAACCCCAUGAUGAGCGGGCCGCCGUCUGCUGGAGCGAUGAUGGGUGGGCCGCUGCCAUCUUAUUUCUACGAGCAGCAGCGGCACGGUCAGCCGUUUGGAGUUUAUGGGCGUCCAGAGUACGACCAGUCGUCGAACAAGCCCUUCAAAGGCCUUUCUGGGCCGCUUCCGCCUGAGGUUGCGAUAGAGCUGAAUAGUGUGCUGAAGUCGCUGAAUGGGACCAAAGAGUCCAUUAAAGGAGCGAAAUUUUGGUUUAUGCAGAGGUCGAUAUUUGCGCCUGCGCUGGCUGAAGCUCUUAGAGAGAGGGUGUUUGGCUUGGAUGAUUGUGAGAGGCAACUGCAUGUGAUUUACCUUGCCAAUGACAUUUUGUUUGACAGGUAAUUCAAAUGGUGCAUUGCUUAUUCAUGGUUUUACAGAGUUCUUGUUUUGCAUUUUCCUGCAUAUGUGUGCUUUGUUGCUUGUGCUUUUUAUGCUUUUGGGUCGAUUUUGUUGGGCCAAUGUAGCUCUGAAAAGAUAAGAAUUUUGUUUGUUGAGCUGGACCUAUGCGUGCAGGAGCAACAGUCACUGGGAAUUUGGAAGGAGUAAUGGAUGGAAGAAGAAGUAGAGUCAUUAUUUGUGGUUGUAGUUUUUGAGCGUUUGCUAUGCUGUAAAAUCCAUGUCGCGGAUGUAUCAUAUUUUCAUUAGAUCAUUGAAGGCUUCAAUCCUGUUACUUGUUAUAGUUCUUUUUCUCAAAAAAAAAAAACAAUUUAAUUGAUGGGUAGGGGUUCGGAUGAUGUUUUUGUGUGAAGAAAUGAGAAGGAUGAUGCCUUCAAUGGGUUUUUGCACUAUUAUGCAGGGAGAGGGAAGGGGUUGUGAAUGUGACCUGUGUUGGAAGGUGUGGAAGGCUUAAAAUGUUAAAUUUAUAAAAUUGUAACAGGGGAUGGUGGAUGAACCUUUCUUGAGAUAUGAAUUAACUCUUCUUUCUUGCCACAGGGGUUGGCAUAUCAUUUAUAUGUUUGUCAUAGCUAUUGUCUCUUUACAGUAGUAAAGAACUUGUACUGAAAAAACUCAAUCUGUCAUACCAAGAAAAAGUCUCUAUCUUUGUUUAUGUGCUAUACAAUGCUUCUAGUAUCUAGCCUGGAGUGUAUAGUUAUGACGACAAUGUGAAUAAAGAACUUAGAGAUGUCUUCUCUUGUUUGUCUUUUGCAUUUGUUUAUUACAGAGGCACUUGAUCGAUGUGAAUAAUUCUUUGAUCUUCCUCUUUUUGCCUUCAAAUUUACAGCUCACAUCGGCGUACUGGUGAAGGCCUUGAUAAUGAAUCCCUUGCACUUAAACCUAUCUUAGGUUCCAUGCUUGCAAGGAUUUAUCACAACCCUCAAAUCACGGAGGACAAUCAAUUGAGGUUGCAGCAAAUUUUACAGUUAUGGGCUUCUAAUAACAUUUACGAUCAGGAUACUAUUGAUGCACUUAGGAAUGAGAUGAUGGGUGGACCCUCAAGCAAUUCUUUUACAGGGCUUCCAAAAGACCUCUCUUCUGCUUCAACAGAUUCAGCUGCAGGUGGGCUUAUGUGUUCUGACUUCUGUGCUUGUUAAGCACAUGCCCUUUUGUGGAACCACUCUCACUUGUCAAGGGUGCUUGCACUUGUGGGCCAGUAGUGCUGUUAAAUUGCCAGCAACUGGGUUUGAUGAUGUGGCUGAUAUAGUAAUUAUCUUUUUUAUUUGAAUGCAGGAUUGCCACCACAGACAACUAACCAUAACAUGCUGCAAUGGCAGCCUGAUAGGCAAAGUUCUGUUUCCGGUUCACACGACCAAGAUCAUCUUGAUAAACAUGCAGGUCCUGGCCAAGCCAUGCCGAUGUCUGUGCCAUCCCAGCAAUUUCUUCCAAAUUCAAUCCCUCCUGCUGCUUUUCCAGGGUCAAUGCCCAUACCAUCUUCUGUUCAACCAGUAAUAAACCAACAACCUGCACCACAUAUACUGCCAGGUCAACCUGCUAAUAGUGGUGAGAAGUUACCACCAUAUCCUCUGUUCCCACCUGGUCUUAUUCCUGAAAUGGUCAGAAAGAUGCAGAUUGGAAGUGGUGUGCCGUAUUCUCCAAUGAGUCCUUUGGACAUUCCAACUGUUAUACCUCCAUCCAAUGUACCUCAAUCAGAAAUUCUUGAGAGAGUGUCAAAAUUCUUCAAAGAGAUUGGUGAAGUUAAUCCUUCUGAAGGGCCCCUUCAUAAUGCCGAUGGUAGGGACGAGGAUGAGUAUGAAAGAGAGCCUUCGGUGCGCAAGGGUGGAGCUUGCAUCCCUCCACCUCCAAACCUGCAGAUAGACCCGGAGACAGGAACUUAUGCGGAUGGCAGUGUAGAUCGAAAGAGUGGCUCGGGGAGGUUGGGACUUGGGGCCACAGCUGAUCCAAAUGAGGCAAGCCAAUACGAUGAUGUUUAUUCUUCUUACAGGAAACAAAGGAGCACCAACUACCACUCAUCCAUGAGUGCAAGAGCUGCAACAAGGUGAAAUACCAGUCCUGAUGGGAGUUGGAAAUGGGGGGUACUAGAUCGGCUUCUUCCUUUUCAUUUUCGGGUUUUUUGUUUUCCUUUCUUCCCGAUAAUCUAUUCUAACAGGCGGCAUGAAUUUCUAGGAGUGUCGUACUUGGUGGGUGGAGUAUCUUGUACUAGACAAAAUUUUGAUUCUCUGAUUGUUAAUGCAUGUAAGAAAUAGCACUUGUAAUCAUUUUAUUUUUACCUGACUAAAACAGAAUCUUUAAUUCAUGCGAAGUUUCCUUCAUCUGUUGAACAUUUUGGAUUCUGAUCAUACUUGAGACAGAGAUGAUAGAUCUUCACAAUUGGAGAAAAUUCACAUGUCAAACUUUAUUUUUUUUUAUACAGUUUUUUUUAAUUAUAUUGGAAAUAAUGAAAAUCUUGGACCAAGGCCUGGUUGGUGAAGUUUUCUGAAAGACUUGGAUUUGGUGUGGAACAUUCAACCUCGUAUUCCAGAGCCAGUUGGUCUGAGGCCUGGUUGGAAAGAGUCGAACGAGACUGAUUGUAUGGAGACUCAAAUUCCAAAUUUCUGCUCCCUCCCAACUUUUCUAAUUUUGCCCAUUUUGAGCCUUCCUCGUAAUAAGUGCCUCUGAUAAGGGCCUAGUCUUUAUGGAUGGAAUGGAACUUUGUCUUGGCCAAAUAGAUUGUAAAGGUGUCCUAGAGCUCAUGCAUUCUCAAGUCAACUCAAGAUAUUCUAUAGUCCUCCUCAAUGCAAAAUAUUGAGAUUCCAAUAUUGGUGUCCAUAUCCUUCUAGGCCUGCCUAAAGUCUUAAUCAACGUUUUAUCUGUAAAUUUGUGGUCAAGCACUUCUAUUUCUAGGGAGAAGGUGCAUGCUUUUUCGAAAUCUUGGGAUUCGUUUGAGAUUGCUUUUAGUCUUUAAUAUGACCAAAAUUGUGUUUAUCAUAUUUAGUUGAAAGCACUUUUUGAAUUAUAAAAACAUGAUAAAAUAGUUGUUAUGUUAACGCGCUUGUAAGUAAAAGUGGUUCCUUACAAAGUAUUUCCAAUUAAAAGUAUGUAAGUUAGGGUAAACUAACUAUUUAAGACCCAAAAAAUUACUAUGGGACUUUAAUGUAGGGAUAUGAUGUGGGGAGAAAAGAAGACAUAUGAUGGUUAACUCACAUGACCAAAAUGAAAAGAACAAAAAAUAUAUAUAAUAAAAAAAAACUUUGCUCUUUGUUUUUUUUUUUUUUUUUUUGGGUCAAUAAACUUUGCUUUGAUUAAUAGCAUAGAAAAAACAACGAUCCAAGGGAAAACCUUUAUUUAUUUAGUUUAAUUUAUUAUAUUUAUUAUAUUUUUUCAUGUACCACAGUAAAAGCGAGAACGUUGAGAUCGCAAUUGAAAAAAAUAUGUAAAAGGGUAAAAUUUAAAAAGGCGCGCAGCGUCCCAAAGUCACAAGACAAGGCCACCAUCAGCCAACUUUCGAAGGAAGGAACGAAAGCAUCCAAUAAUCUUUAACCCUAAAUCCACAUCCACGUCCACGUCUGAUGUCGAUGGCUGUCGCGCUUUCCAUGGCAGAUUGCCGGAGCCUCAUUCGCCAUCUAUUUCUCACUUUCACUGGGUUUCCAUUUCCCCAUUUCCCCACUUUCCCAUUUUCCACAUUUCCUUUCCCUUUCUUUCCGUUACUCUCUCUCUCUCUUCCUCUGUUCCAUUUUUUUAUUCUCUCUCUGUGUGUCUCUCUCUCCCUUGACAUUUCACGCACACUCCAUACUCACACUCUCCUCACUUUACUUCUCGGGCUUUCCCUUCUCUCUCUCCCUGAUCCAAAAACCCAACUCAAUGUUUAUGGUAUGACUGUGUAACUGCACCAGUCACCAGGUUUGCUAUUUUGUAAAUCUUAUAAUUGGAUCGCUUCAUCUUCACUAUUGGGUCUCAUCCCAUACCCCUUCUUUUCGAACGUUUAAGAUUUGGGUUUCAUUGAUUUGCAGGUUUUGGUCAAACAAAAAAGGACCCAAGUGUUUAUUUCAUCGGAUUAUCAUGUAAUUGGGACUCUGGAGUUGGGAAUUACUGCCUCUGAGCUCAUAUUCACAGUGACCAACAUAGAGAAUUUGUGUUUUGAAGCUUAGAUUUGGCCAUGGAGAAACUUCCUGAUGCAGAAGUUAGCUCAAUUUUGAGGUUCUCCUUCUAUAUCCCCCUUUGCUUUCUUUUGGGUUUAUAUUGAUUUUACAAAAAAACUUUUCGUUUGCUGAUGAGAAAUGUAAGCAAAGAAGAACAUGUUUGCUAUGCUUGCAUGCUAUGCUAUGCCUUGAAGUGAAGAAUCGUUGAUUUCCCCGGCCCUGUUGUCUUUGAAUGUAGUUUGUCUGCGGCUUUGUCGUAUGGGGCUGCUUCCAUGGCAAUGGUUUUUAUCAAUAAAGCAGUUCUUAUGGAGUACUCACAUUCAAUGACUCUUCUCACUGUCCAGGUAUUACUUACCAUUGGACUAUUGGUCUUUUAAUUUCCAUCAAUGACCUGCCUUGAUUGUUCAUGAUGUCCCCCCUUUUUUAUUUCUUUAUUGUUUUAGUAAUUUGCAGCUGCUUCCUGCUUGGUUGUUCAUAAUGAGCCUCCUUUCAUUUCUUUAUUGUCUUAGCAAUUGGCAACUGCUUUGCUUAUACACGUUGGUCGAAGAUUGGGAUAUACCAGGUCAAGAGGAUUAGAAAUGAGCACUGCAAAAAAACUUCUCCCGGUGUCGCUGUUCUAUAAUGCUAAUGUGGCGUUUGCUUUGGCCAGUUUGAAGGGAGUUAAUAUUCCCAUGUAUAUUGCAAUCAAAAGACUCACACCUCUCGCUGUGCUUAUAGCUGGGUUCGUCUCAGGAAAGGGGAAACCCACAAUACAGGUUCCCGCUUGUCUUUCUUUGGAUCGGCUUGUGCGAUGUUUGACUCCUGCCUGUGUUUAUUUAAAUGGAUUGUUUUACUGUGUUAUUAAACUUAAUGAUUGUGUAUAUAUUUUGAAAGGAUUAGUUAUGCUUUCUUUCUUCUUUUGUUUAGUACUAUUGACCCUAAACUUGUUUUAUCCCCAAUUAGAACACGGGCAAGAUACUAUUUAGUCUUGGAAACAUGUGAUGUGAAAAUUCCAUAAGAUACAAAUUGACUAACUCUACAAAUUCAAAAUGGAAGCUAAAUUAUAUGUUUUCUUUGACAUACUUUGUGUUAGUGCGGGAGUAGUUGUCUGCAAUUCAUAAGUUAAGAUAUGUUUGAUGAGACUAAGUUGCAUUUUGUGUCUGAUUCAUAUUAUGAUGGCCAGGUCAUUUCCUCAGUGUUUACCACAACCCUUCUCCAUUCUUGAGAUUUAGUAUAAGGUGUAAAACACUAGGCUUUAAACUUUGUCAUUUAGAUUUGUAAGUACUCUCAGCUUUUACAAAAUAGAGUUACUGUUGCUGUUGAAGAGUCUCUAUGAUGACGUCUGGCAUCAUAUAUGGAACAAAUUGUCUUGUGACACAAUUAUGUUUGUCUUCAUAAAUAAGUUGAUCUUAUAAAUGUAGAUAAAGGAUGCUUGAUUUCAAAUUAGCACACAUCAGGAGUUAUUGUUAGAAGUGCAAAAGUUAUUCAUGGAAUUUUCUAGAUGAUAAAUAUAAUGCUAAAAGUCCUGGCAAGAAGCAUUUUUAUUACUACUAAUUUGACAAUACUGAGUUCUAUUUGCCCCUUUCCUCUCUUUCAUGUUUCAGGUGUCUCUUUCAGUAAUAUUGACUGCAGGAGGGGUUGUGAUAGCUGCACUGGGAGAUUUUUCGUUUGACUUUUUUGGAUAUAGCAUGGCUCUCACUUCUGUUUUUUUCCAGGUUGGUUAUGAUGUUUUUGUUUAUCCAUUGGUUUAUUUACUGGCUUCAAAUUGUAUGUUAUGGUAGCUAAACUCAUACUAGCGCUUAAUUAUCAGACCAUGUACCUUGUGUUGGUGGAGAAAUCUGGGGCAGAGGAUGGGCUAUCAUCAGUUGAGAUCAUGUACUAUAACAGCUUUCUGUCUCUUCCAGUUUUGAUGUUUCUCAUUGUAGCUACAGGAGAAUUUCCAAAUUCUCUAUUAUUACUAAUUGCAAAGGUCAGAACCGUAACCUUUUCUUUCUAUAUGUAAUUGAAUUCAUUCUUGAUAAUUAUGGGAACAGUAGAUGCUUGAGCAAGAAAUGCUUGACUGCUUAAACUGUUUUGGACGCCAACCUAUCUCAUUUUAUUAAACAUAUUGGAGUCUGAAAUAGUAAAAGUUCGUUUUGUAUUGAGAAAAGGACUACAGGCUUUGACAUCUAAUCUUUCUUUCUGAAGUUAUGAUAGAAAAGAGUUAAUACAUGUUAAACAGUAUAAAAACCGUACUCUGAUAAUGGAUUUCAAAUUACAAGUUCCAAUUGACAACAUAGUUGACUAAACAUGUUGCUUUGAGCAAUUUAGCCAUUUAGAAGUCCUAGUUUCCUUUUGGCCUGCAUCCCCAUUACGGAUUCCUAGAUCAGCGGGUGAAAUCAAUUUCAGCAAUGUGGUGGGGGCUGGGGGUUUCAUUAAAAGCAUUAUUCCACUCAUUAUGCUGAUUUUGUGUUCUUUGCAUAUUUUUGGGAUUCUGGAUGAGUGGAUAUACAGUUGCGUGGCUGCCUGGCCAUGUAAUUAGUAACCAUGUAAAGAUUGCUCUUGAGGGCCUGGGGCUUAUUGCUGUGCCACUGAAUUUUUCUUCUUCUUAAAAAGAUCCUACAAUAUAUAUCUGACACGGAGUUUUUCUUUGUUUGCAGAGUAAUUCGUUUUAUUUUUUGGUGAUCCUUAUUCUUUCAUUUGUUAUGGGCAUUGUUCUCAACUACACCAUGUUCUUAUGUACCAUAGUCAACUCCGCUCUAACAACAACUAUCGUUGGAGUCCUAAAAGGGGUUGGCUCUACGGUAUGCCUGAACUCCCUCUUUGUUGAUGAUUGUGGGCAUUAAAUUUUCUUUCAUCUUAUUUUAAAGCAAAAUAUAUGUGAGCAAAAUUACUUAUUCAUGUUUCUUUGCUUCUCAGACCCUUGGUUUUGUCUUACUGGGUGGUGUGCAAGUGCAUUUUCUGAAUGUGACUGGACUAGUUAUCAACACAGCUGGCGGAGUUUGGUAUUCAUUUGCCAAAUAUCAGCAAAGGAAGAGCAAGCCCCCGAAGAGGAUUUCAGACGUGGAGGCUCAUCGUAAAUGAAAUUGAUAUUGAAAGAUCGCAUACGAUUGCUAACAGCUGCUUUCUCUUUUUACUAUUUGCUUCUAUUUUCAUCAAACAUGGCUAUUAGUUCUUCGAAGAACAAUGAUACAUGGUUCAUGUUGACUUUGUUGAAUCUUGAAAUUUAGGUAUUACAGAAAGCAAAUACCCUAGUUCAUGUUUUCGGAUAGAUUAGUCCUUGAGAAGAAAAAUCUUCCAGGGUCCAGGUUAUAUCAGAAUGGGUCUCCCAGGCUCCUCCAUGCACAUGCACUUGUUUUCCUGUUGUGCUAGUCCAUCCUUCACUUGAAUAAUAAUAUCCUUUGUUGUUCUCCCAUACUGCAAUUAUUGCUUUUGGCUGAGUAAGAUGUUGAUAGAUUACCACUCGGCUUAAUUACACUGUUCAUUCGUACAGUUAGAUUAGGUCAGUUGGCCAGGGCUGCCCACCUACUUGCACCGAGUUUGAAUCCUCUUCCACGUCAAUUAUAGUAGUCUAGAAUAUUGCAUUGUGAAUAAAAAGCAAAGAUUUUAAAGCAUCAAGAGUUUCAAGUUGAUCUAAACUGAUGACCUUGAGAAGAUGACACUGGAUGCUUCCAACCUUCCAAAUCCAAAACCCAUCCAGCUAUUUACAAGUUUACUUGACUCUGAAAUCUGAGUAUAAUCCCCCUUUAAUUCUUCAAAUUUACUGAAUCCCUAAAACCCUUCAGCACACGACCAAAACCAUUUCUUCAAUUGAACUAGGGUUUUCCAACAACUGCAUCAAAAUAUUGCAGGUAAAAUAAAUACAAUAAUUUCUUUUUCCAUUUAACAGAUUUCAAUUUAAGACUUACCAUCUUCUCACCACACACAAAUAUAUAUAUCUGAACAUCCUUACAUUAUUAUUAUUCGAACGUCAUUAUAAACAAAAAUAAAAACAGAAAGGGAUAAUAAAAAAUGGGUCAUGCUAGGGAGACCAACUUUAGAUACCAACUUGUGUACCAACUCUCUAAUAGAGGUGGGAGCCCACCAAUACAAUGGGUCCCACACUCUAUUAGAGAGUUGGUACACAAGUUGGUAUCUAAAGUUGGUCUCCCUAGCAUUUUCCAUAAAAAAUACUUAACGUAGACAAGAUAAUAACUUUCAUUAAUAUUCCAACUCAAGCUUUGUUAGCUCCAUAGCCGACAAAACAAUUGAAUUGGGCUGUUGGGUGGCCUUCUGGGGGCGCUUUGAAUUUAAAUGCAAAAUGUGCUUUGCUUGCCUUGUUGUCUUGUCUGAUUCUAAACCCAAAUACUAAAGGGGGCUGCCCAAAACACUCGUUUCUUUUGCUCUACUAUUUUCCUUUUGGUGUGUGGAUUUUAUUUACUCUUUUUAUUUGAUGUAAUUUUAUGGGCCUGCAUCUUUUAUUUUCUUUCUUUUUCGCCCUGAUAUGCAUUGCUCGAGUCAAUCACAAAUUAAAUUUGGUGGGUUGGUUCACGGGGCCAAUAUCUGAAUUUCUUUUUCUUUUAGGAAAAUCUCAGGUAGACCUAACAUUUGCAUGAUAUUAUUAUUAUCCCUCUCAUAUGUUUCAUGAGAAAGGCCAUCUUUUAUUAAUUUAUUAAUUUCCCGCUAAAUGUAUGAAUUCAAGUGUAGGGUAAAUGCUUUUACUCAUUUGAGUUAUAAAGUAUUGUCUGUUUUUUAGACCUAAAAAUUUGCACAAAUUCGUAUAAUUCAAAAAUCGAAAAGACAAAUUAAUAAUCAUAUGCAAAAUAGUAUUUGUGAUGAAUCACAGGUAUGGGUUGUAUUAUAAUUGGCAUAGCCUUGCUUCUCCAGCUCAUAGUUGCUGAAAUUCAUAAGGCCUUCUUGUUGAUCUCUGAUGAGACGGUUUGGAAUCACAUGCAUGCAUGGACACAGAUCUAUAAACAAUAAUUGAGAGACCACCCACGGUUUUUAUGCAUGAAACAACAAAAAUAUGAGUCUAUUUUGUUUUUUUAUUAUAAACGAUAAUCUAAAUUAAGAGAAGGAGAAUUUCUUACACAUACUAUUCUGAUGUCAUGUGGAUUUGAAUCUAAGAUCACUAGUUUGCAAGUUAAGGCCCUUUUUUCACUGAGCUAGACUCCGUUAACAAAUAUGUCUAUCUUAAGUAGAAGGACAGGUAUAUCUUCUAAAUAUUAUUACAAGAAACAAAUAAUAAUUAAUUUUCUUGAUUUUUAUAUUUUUAUAUUUAUUUCAAUGAAUCUCGAUAAUGUAGCAUCAAUUCACAGCAAAUUAACGCACUGUCCAUAUAAUGAAAGUAUCAAGUGAUUUAUGUUAUAUUAAUGCUAAAUAAGUGGUUAAGAUUAAUAAAUUGUGGGCAGCACAACACGUGAAAUUCUUUUCUUUUUCUUCUUUAUAGAAAACCAAAUUUAAACAAGUUUACAACUUUACACUUUCCCUGAGAGAAAAUGUGACAAAUUUGGAAUGAAAGAAAUUCCAUUUUAUUAGCACAGUAAUCAUACUUAUUUCAGGAUUUUUUAAAAUUUAAAAUUAGACAACUAGUAAUCAUUCUUUUAUUGUAUUAAGUCAUUUUGAUUAGUUGGCUAAUAUAAAAAAAUUCCCUAAUAAACAUUAGUUAACUAAUAUAAAUGAGAUUUAGAAUAAUAAUGGUAAUAAAUAAAAAUAUUUUUCUUAAAUUUAUACAAAUGAAAUGUGAGUAAGCUUUACAAUGUUACACCCUAAAUAAAAAUCUUUUUACAAUCACAUCACAUGGGUGGCUAGCUAUUGGCUUUUGGCAGUGGGCCUUUAAAACCACUGUCUCUUUGUAUUAAUAUUCAUAUUUAAAUUUAGAAAAAGAAAAAGAAAAUGGUCAUACAGAAUAAAAGAACAAAAGAAUAUUCUUAUAUAUAAGCUUCUAAUUCAUAGUAAAAAGAAUAAUACACUCAUUAUUUUUACUAAAACUAUCUUAUUCUGAAACUCUGAUAUAGAAAGUGAGAGUUAGCUGAUUUUUUUAUUUUUUGGGUGGUUUGAGAGGGAGAGAGUUAGCUGGUUGAAGUAAUGACAGUGCGGCAUUUCCGCCAUUGUAGUGCAGAGUUGGAGUAUAUUUAAGAUUAUUGCCUGUUUUGACAGUUGAUUUUCUGGGUCAUCUGUGUAACUGUUCCCUUAACUAAAAUUUUCCUUCUUUCUUUUUUUGGUUCCUUUUUUCUGUUUUUAACAAAAUUGUAAUUGUAUUAACUCUUAAGAGUGAUUUGUGACCAUGUUUAGCUCCUGAUUUGUCUAUGAUAUUCAAUUACAAUAACGACUGAGAGUCAACACCUGGAUUCAGUAAACAAUGGGAUGCUUAUUUGUAGUCAAAUCAGUCUCCAAUGUUUUACCAGUGAACUCUGCUGUGCAUUUUUGAAACUUUUUUUGGAAGAAUCUGUGAGCUUUUUAAGCAGAUUCUGAAAAUCAAAAAUAUUUCACCCAAUGGUAAUAUAUUUGUGUGAGUUUAAAGCAAGGGUUGAGCUUGAUGGGCUUACUUGACAAGUACCCCACAUGGCGUUUCGGCUAUUACAGCUGCAGAUAGGCCGAUACCUUCCCUCAUAAUGUGGCUUUCCCGUGCUCUGUGUUUUCUUGAGUGCCUUUGAGAGAGUACAAAGAACCAACCUCCCACACUUCUCUUUUUUGGCUUUUCUUGGCUGCAUUCUGUGUAGAAUGGAGAGCCUUGAAAUGGGUUCUUCACUUCUUUGAGUUUUCAUUGGUAAAGUUGAGUUUUUUAUGGUUGCUCCUGAAAUGGGUUUUGCUCAUUUCUCUGUCUUCAGAUCUGGGUUUUAGAGUUUUUCUUGGUUUUUGUAAAAUUUGGGACUUUGGGUUCUUAUAUUCUUCAUAGUUUUUCGAAAAAAAUUAUUUUGUGUGUUAUUGUGUGUGAGAAAAUGGCUCCAAGAUGGGAUUUUUUCAAUUUCUGGGCAAAAGACACCAGUAAGGGAACACCAGUGGUUGUGACAAUGGAGAACCCCAAUUUCUCUGUUGUGGAGAUUGAUGGUCCUGAUGCUGCAUUCAGGCCUGUUGAUAAGAGCAGGGGUAAAAAUGCCAAGCAAGUCACAUGGGUCUUGCUUCUUAAGGCUCAUCGUGCUGUCAGUUGCAUUUCUUGGCUUGCCACAAUCUUCUGGGCAUUGCUUGGUACCAUUAAGAAGAGGUUAAUCUAUAGGGAAGGUGUAGCUAUGGAGAGUGGGAAGUUGGGAAAGCAGAAGUUACUGUUUACAGUCAUAAGAGUCUUCUUAGUGACUUCCCUUGCAAUUCUGGCUUUUGAGGUUGUUGCAUAUUUCAAAGGUUGGCAUUAUUUUAGGAACCCAAGUUUGCACAUCCCUGGAACUUCUGAUAUACAAAGCUUGCUCCACAUGGUUUAUGUUGCCUGGUUAACGUUUCGGGCUGAUUACAUUGCACCUGCAAUUCAAGCACUUUCGAAAUUUUGUGUCGUCCUUUUCCUUAUCCAAUCCAUAGACCGUAUGAUACUUAGCGUUGGUUGCUUGUGGAUAAAGUUCAAGAAAAUUAAGCCCAGGAUAGAUUGGGAUUCUUUGAAGUCAGACGACGUUGAGAAAUCUGGAUAUGAGUACCCCAGGGUUCUUAUUCAAAUUCCAAUGUGCAAUGAGAAAGAGGUAAUGAAUUGAACUUUAUCUCUUCCCUUUCUAUGUUCUUCAUUAAUUUCUGUUAGUUUCUCGUGUUGCUUUUAGCUGGUGGCCAUUUGAUUCACUAGUCAUAAGUUACUAUUUCUGGAGUAGAUAGUUAUGCUUAGUAAUCCAGUUGCACCACCAAACUUGCAAAACUUUGUUUAAUAAAAAGUGUCUUCUUAGAUUCAGAUAGCAUCAUGUAAAAUUUGGUGAGCAGUUGAGGAAUUAUUGUGAAUAUUUAAUGGUUGUGAGCAAAAAAAAAAUCAUCAUUUGAAUAAAGUAUCCUCUUACUAAAAAUUGCAAAUUAGAGUUAUAAUUGUGAACUUUAGAAAGAAUGUGAAGAAUUGUCACAUUGUUCAGAUCUGUUAUUUAAGGUCGAUAGUAGACACUGGCCACUUUAGGUGUAAUACAUGAUGGUGAGGCCAAAAAAUUGAAGCAUAAGAAAUUAAUGGCGACCACAUAAAUGUGCUAUAGAUUCUUCAUGAUGUUCAUAAGGUGUCUUGGCCUGGCGUUUUGCAGGUAUAUGAGCAGUCUAUCUCUGCAGUCUGCCAGAUUGAUUGGCCAAAGGAAUGUCUUUUGAUUCAAGUUCUUGAUGAUUCUGAUGAUGAGAGCAUCCAGUGGUUAAUAAAGACAGAGGUUGCUAAUUGGAGCCAAAGGGGUAUCAACAUAAUCUAUCGGCAUCGCGUGGUUAGAACUGGUUACAAAGCUGGAAAUCUCAAGUCUGCAAUGAGCUGUGAUUAUGUGAAGGACUAUGAAUUUGUUGCAAUCUUUGAUGCAGAUUUCCAACCUAAUCCAGAUUUUCUUAAGCAAACAGUGCCACAUUUCAAGGUGAAUAGCAACACAAUACAUUUGUCAGUGUAUUUUUUGGUUGAUGAAUACUUCAGGAAUUUAAUAUAUCUCACUCUGUGUUGCAGGACAACCCCGAACUAGGUUUAGUUCAGGCUAGAUGGGCCUUUGUGAACAAGGAUGAGAACUUGUUGACUCGUCUCCAAAACGUUAAUUUGUGCUUCCACUUUGAGGUGGAACAACAGGUUAAUGGGGUGUUUCUUAAUUUCUUUGGUUUCAAUGGAACUGCUGGUGUUUGGAGAAUUAAAGCCCUUGAGGAGUCUGGAGGAUGGCUAGAAAGGACUACUGUAGAGGAUAUGGACAUAGCUGUCCGGGCCCAUCUCAAUGGUUGGAAAUUCAUCUACCUUAACGAUGUUAAGGUAAUCUUAAAUUAUAGUUGUUCCAUAUCUAUUUAAUCUAGACCUAACAUGUCAGGGAAUUGUCAUUUGUGAUAUUUUAAGUGUACUUCUGGUUUAGUGUCUCUGCGGAUGACAAAGUUGGAGUGCAUAACCUUGAUAUUUAUAGCCUCCAACUGCAUGUAAAUUUUGUUUUAAGCCCUAAAGCUAUGUAAAUUUUCAGGUACUAUGUGAAGUGCCCGAGUCCUAUGAAGCUUAUAGGAAGCAGCAGCAUCGUUGGCAUUCUGGUCCUAUGCAGCUAUUUAGAUUGUGCCUGCCAGCUAUUAUAACUUCUAAGGUGCCUUGAAUCUUAUUUACAACAGUCUGUUAUUCUGCUAUUCCCAAUUCCUCAUUAUUUAUAACCAUAAUGUCUUGAAUUGUAUAAAUACUGCAGAUAACAGCUUGGAAGAAAGCAAACUUGAUACUAUUAUUCUUUCUAUUGAGGAAACUCAUCCUUCCAUUCUAUUCCUUCACCUUGUUCUGCAUAAUUCUUCCACUGACCAUGUUUGUCCCGGAGGCAGAGCUUCCUGCAUGGGUCAUCUGUUACGUGCCUGUUUUCAUGUCAUUUCUCAACAUUCUUCCAUCCCCCAAAUCAUUCCCUUUCAUUGUUCCUUACCUGCUUUUUGAGAACACUAUGUCGGUAACAAAAUUCAACGCAAUGGUCUCUGGAUUGUUCCAGUUGGGUAGCUCUUAUGAGUGGGUUAUCACCAAGAAGACUGGCAGGUCAUCAGAAUCUGACUUAAUGGCAGCUGCUGAAAGGGAAUCAAAGAUGGUAAACCAAUUGCAGGUCCACAGAGGAGCUUCUGAGAGUGAGCUUUCUGAGUUGAACCGAAUUAUGGAGCAGAAAGAAGUAGCUCCUAAGCCAAUUAAGAAAGCUAACAAGAUAUAUAGGAAAGAGCUUGCUCUAGCAUUCCUCCUGCUCACAGCUUCUGUCAGGAGUCUGUUAUCUGCUCAAGGAGUACACUUCUACUUCCUGCUCUUCCAAGGUGUGACCUUCCUUCUUGUAGGACUUGAUCUCAUUGGGGAGCAAAUGAGCUGAUAAUUCAUGGGUGCAAGAGAAGAAAAAAAAGGAGAAAAAGCAAACACCUAUAUACACAUGGAGGAAUUUCAACCCCUUUGCCUUGGGAAUGUGCAGCACAGAGUUACCCUUUGGUUCAAUAGGAUGAAUCAUUUACAUACAGUGAGAAUGAAGUACAAGAUAGGAACUUUGUUUGUCAAGCACUCCCCAUACCACAUUUCCAAAUGUUCUUUCCUCAAUUUUUUAUUUUUUUAUUUUUAUUUACCACAGAUAUUGAAUUGUUCUUGUUCACCAUAAGUGGGAACAGAAUAUUGGGUUGUCAUUGAUUAUUGUGUUUUAGAAUCCAAGAAGGUAGAUUGGAGUCUAAGGAUGAUGAGUUUGCCUGAUGCUUUUGGCUUGUAGAUUCCUUCUUGGUAGCUAGUGAGACAUGCAAAGCAAGCAUCAUCUGUAAUUAAUUUAUCUGAAAAUAAUAAUUCCUUUAUGUAUAUUCAGCUUUUAUCUAUUUGACAAAAUACUCUCUCUCUCUCUCUCUCUCCCCACAAUCUGCAAAUAAUGGAGUGUGUAUGUGUGUCUCCAUGCACACGUGUUUUUAGACAAAUUUGAAGUGUCGGUAGGCGAAAUAGGUGAAACAAAGUUUGCAUUUUAAGGUAUUUUGGGGCGGCUGAGGUUUUUGGUUCAUAAAGUUUCAAGCUUUCCGGCCUCCAGUCUAUGGCCACAGAAUUGGGGGGCCAGAGAUCUUUGGUGGGCAUGCAUCUGAUCUUUGCUGUUGUGGAUAGUGUCCUUGGUUGGGUUGGGAGGUCUAAUUAUAGAUAGAUUUGAUUCAUUUCCUUGGCCAGCCAUGGCUCAUGUAAGGCCCAGUGAAUUAAUUUUUUGCAAUGCAAUGUCACUACCUUCUAAAUUUCUCAGAAAAUCUUUGAUUUGACAAGCCACUUAGCCACCUGUUAAUGUCUCCUUGUAUUAGUAACUGGGAUAUGCCUGCCUCACUACUACGUAGUACUGUCUUGUUGCAUUUGUAAUUUUUUAAAAAAAUAUAAAAUUAAUGUACCAUACAUUUGUAAUAAAAGUAAUUUUCUUCUUAUCAUUCACUUUUAUUAUUGAGAAGAAAAGAAAAGAGUGAAAUUUCAUGUCCACGACCGUCUGUCUGGCCCAUACCCAACUUAUUUUUAUAGGUGUUUCCCAUUGUUUAUUUCUUUUUUUUUGGAACUGUAAGAUUCAUCGAAAGCAAGAUAAAAACUCAUAAUACAUACAGGAAGAACACAGUUCCAAAAUGGAGAUUCUUACAAUGCAGAAACUCUAAAAAACAUAAACAAAUAGGAAAAAACAUUACAACUUGAAUCCUAGCUCACUUGGAGUUACUGAUGAGGAUGGAAUAUUUUAUUAUUAUUUAUUUAUCCAUUUUGAUAGCCUUGACUAAAAUCAAGUUGGGGCUUGGGUAAUGAUUAUAAACCCAAUUUGGAGACUGCACUUAAGUUUUCCUUUUCUUGUUGAUCAGAGAACAAAUUGGUCAUUUGAAUUCCAUGAUCAUAUUCCAAAAAAUCAGUUGCAACUUGCAACUACAUUUUAUAUACAAAACAGCAAACAUCACUCUGAAACCCUUGGAUGGAGCAAAACCCUAGGAACCCAAUUUACUUUUUCUCCUCAACUAAUAUUGAAGUUCAAAUUCAAUGCAUGUUUUACUGAUUAGUAUUUAUGAUCAAUUACAGUUUUUUUCACCACCAUAGUGAAAUAACAUGGCCUUUUUGCUGUUGGAUCAGAAGGGUUUUCAAUCCUCAAUGAGCAAUGAAAACUGCAAGGAAGAAAAUGUUCAGCAAAAAACCAAAACUUGUAGGAAGAAAAAGAAUUAUAUGACAAAUUAGUAAUGAAAAUCAACAUUAACAAAUGCAAUAGAAAGUAUACAAAUUAUUUUAGUUGUAGAGUACAGCUGGCUAUAUAGGUAGAGGAACUAGAAUUUACAAUGGGGUCAAUAAUUCAGAUUCAAACACAACAUAGGUUUUGAUGUUGAGCCAACAUCUUGGGAGGUUGGAGACUUGCAGUUCCCAUGACCAUACAAGCCAUCCAAUUAUAAUUGGAUCCCAUGCUAUUUUAAUCUCCAAAUAGACAUUUUGAAGAUAUUUUUUUUAAAUAAAUUUUUUUUGCAUAAUAUUGACUAUUGGCUUUGAUUUUUAUUAUUAAUGUGUACGUAGCAAUCUUAAUAAACUAGUCAUCUUCUGGCUCUAUUGAGAAGUCUGGCUCUUCAGGCUUCAACAACUUAGGCAAUUGAACAUCCUUGAUUUUCUGAGCUCCUCUCCUAGUGUUUGCAGCAAACCUUGAAGCCAGAAUUGUGACACCAAGAUUCUGUCUUACUUGGAAAGUAUUUGAAGUUGCAUCAGUGGUAUUAGGGUAAUCUUCCUUUUCUUCUUUUGCCUCAUCAGCCUCUUCAUGCUUGUCAUAAUUAUAUGAAAAUGACUCUACCAUGCUGAGGUUCUUUGCCAGCAGUCGCUUCUUGAACCGGCGCCACGCAACCUGAAUGAAGCAAGCAGCCCAAGUUCUCCAAUGGUAAGAGUAGAAACGGAAUGUGUGCUGCAGCUUCUUGCUAUGAAGCCGUCUAAAUUGGUUGGCAACAAAUUUGAGGUCCUCUGCUCUCAGUGCAAAGGCUUCCACUUCAUCAAGGGAUCGAACUGUUCUUGUUGAAGAAGGCAAGUUGAGGGUUGAUUUGGGAAGCAAUGCCCAAGCAAGCAAUUCUUCACCACAGAAGUCACCAGGUCUCAAAGUAAUUGAGUUGAAGAAACCUAUCCUGCCUCCAUUUGUUGUUGAGCUCUCUAGCUUCCCUCGUAUGAUGAAAAGCAUUUCUGUAACGGGAUCACCUUCACGAACAAUGUAGGUACCCUGAGUACUUAAGGAGGAUACUAAACGCUCGCAUAUGGCGUCAAGAAGCUGACCAUCCAUCUGUGAGAAAAAGGGGACCUGCAAAUGACACAAUGUGAAGCAUUACUCAUUAGGAUUUGUUUGCCAUGAUCUUUUCUGUAUCAGAAUCUCAAUGCCGGCAAAAUCUGUUGAUCAGAGAAGACACACACUUACGCGUCGAACAAGAUCUAAACAUAGGUGGCGUUGGAUAUCACGACGAAGAUCAGUAGGCAAGGCAUGUAAGAUUGAUUCUUCAUCAACUCCACGAGUGGCAACCCACUUGUACUGCACGAAUCGCCUUACACGCUCUUGCAGAUCUCGGGGGAGCUGGCGAUGUUUCAUCCACUCCUCGGUGUCCCUCCGUUUGAGCCUCCACUCCUCAAGUCUCACAGUGAUGGAUUGCAAAUAGGUCUGCACUUAAAGUAGAACAUGUUUAAAUUAAAGAUGGACAUGAAUUUAUGAACAAUGAACAAUGAAAAAAAGGUUUUCUUGUUGCUGAAGGCAAACAAUUACAAGAAUUACAUAAUAUAUUUUGAUAAUUUACCUGCAUAUUUCCAAUUAAGUGGGCAAACAGAACCAGACCCAAGAUAGCAAUGAGUAUGGCAAAAGAAGUUUCCCCAAUAAAUGUGCUUGUAGUCAAAGUCUGCCCAUAGGAGCUGAGAUAUAUCAAAACAGAUUAUAUCAGAACCAAUACUGAUCAAAUUGCAGAUUAUAACCAUUUAAUCAUGAUCGUACCUCAAGUUCUGUAAGCCCCACCAAAGACAAUAGAAGUACUUCUGAAGAAACUCUGUGGAGACCACAUUUUUAGUCACUGCAUUCUCAAAAAUGCCAUAUUUGAAAUCGAUGGUGUUUUCUGGGUUGCAGUUGCUAAACACUUGAGUGCUGUUCAUCCAUCUGCGGCGAUCAUCGUUGUUCAAAUUACCACAAUCCAAGUAGCCGAGGAAACAUUUCGUGGGGCUGAAUUCCUUUCUGCAUUCUGACUUCCAGCAUGUCACGUACCGUUCGAUGGACAACAAAUACCAUGAUGCCCCCAAGACCUACAAGAACAAACAUUGUUCUAGCAUUUGUUACUGAGUCUUGAAUCACGGUUAAAUUGAAUUGGUAAAUUUAAAAAUUUAAAAAUUAUAAAUAAAUAAUAAAUAAAUAAAAAAAAAGAAGCUGCAUACAUGACUGGCUAACAUGUAGAGGAUGAGAUUAUAUGCAGCCCCAGCCCAAGCUGUCUUUGUGACUACACCAGUGGCUUUGAUAAUCUGAGAACUUAGUGGAAAAAUAAGAUAUAAUCUUGGAACAUAUUGGAGCAGAACAAUCAGUACAAGGGCAUUAUUGGUACUAUGGGAGCUUCUAACUGCAGGAAUAAUAAACCAUAUAACAAUCUGCAAAACAGAAUAUAAAAGCACUGUUAUUUCCACAAUUGUUACAGAAAACUAAUAUAGAUGGGGACAAAAUACAAAAAACUACAUUGGAUUUUCUUCAUAUGUAGGUACAAUGCCCUUCUCAAUAUUUUUCAAUCCACUACGAAAUCAUAGAAUCAUUUGCAGAAGAAUCAAUCUAGACCGGGAUAAAAAUAGGCAUAAAAAAAGAAGGAUGAUGCACCUGAGGGAGAGGCAGUGUAGCUAUGAGAUCUAUGAAGAAAUCCGUUCUCAAAUACCUUCUUGCUAUCUUCUUGGGAUCCAUAACAAGUUCACCCCUCCCGAAAACUCUUGAACUUGGCGAUACAUAAGCUGUCCUUAACUUAAUGAACAUGUGCAACAGGUAGAACAUAUCGGCAAGAGUGCGAAAACAAGUCACAACAAUUCCCAAGUUCAAGUCAGUUGCCACACAAGAUGAGCUACCAUCAUUCAGCACAGAAGGAAGGUAGAAAAAGAGCGGAUCAACGAACAGCGCCACCAAGCAAGAAAAGAGGAAAAUCCUGUUCCAUUGCAAGAAAAUGUCACUUCCUGGAUCAAGAAUUUUCUUCUUGUAUGGCUCAUGGCUCUCUGGGAAAACCUUAAAACUCCCAAAUCUGUGAGGUUUAGCUCUAACACCAGCAGCAGUGCUGCCUUCAGGAAUUAACAGAGGGGCUGCAGCUGCUGAGACUUUGUACUCUUUUGAGUGUUUUUGGGUGUCACUUUUUUCCCAUGAAAAUUGAACAUCUUGUUUCUCAUUAUCAUAAAACCUGUGAGCAUGAAAAACACAAAAUUUAAGCUAAAUUAGAAAACUAAGCAAAAGUGGGAAGAAACCAAGAAAUAUUAGAUGGAGUUGUAUAGUAGAGAGAGACAAUUACCUCACUAGCUUAUCUUUCUUCAACUCCAUGCUUGCACUUCUGGUAACAUUUAUUCAUCGACAGAGACCAUUACAAAGAUGCAUUACAUGAGUUGCAACACAAAUGAACAGCAACAGUUCAAGUGCACCACAUUUGUUGGGAAGUUUUCCAAUCUUCCAAAACCAAAACAAAUAUUAAAAUGACAAGUUUCAGAGAGAGAGAGAGAAGGGAAGAGGAGGCUUGAUCCAAGGCUGAAACUUUGGGAAGAAAAAGAUGUGGGGUGGUCUUAUUUUAUGUAAUGUUGAAGGAAGGAUUAAGAAAGCCAGUGAAUCUCAGACACAGAGAGGUAGAGAACGUGAAGAACAUGAAUGUUUAUAUUAAACAAGAAGUGCAGUGUGCCCAUUAAAGACAAGAGAGGGAGAUAUUAAAUUCUACACUAGCAGUUAAAAACAAGCUACAUGUCUAUCUAGCUAUUAUUUGCUUCACACACUUUGGUUUUGACUUCUAUUUUUUUAUUUUUUUAUUUAUACACUGGAAGAAAUUGGUUGAGGAGGGAGGGAGGGAGGCACGAUCCAAUUAAUAUCCCUCAAAUCAAGAGAUUGUGAGAUGAAACCUGGAAAAUUUAUGAAUUUUUGUGCAGCUUAUAUGACACAAAAUUAUAUUUGUUCUGUUGAUGUUAACUUCACAGAAAUAUAUAUAUAUAUAUAUAUAUAUAUAUAAUUCACAUUUAUUAUAAUAUUUCUUAUGUUAAAAUCUCCAUGUCCUACCAAUGUGGGGCCUCUACAGUGUGGUGAUGCUCAAUCGCCGUAUCAAUGUGGGCAAGAGAGUGUGGGAUUUACCCAUCAUUCAUCCACCUGCGUUGAAUCUAGCUGUGAUACCAAUUGAUACGAGUUAAUAGGUAGAAACUUCAAACUUCACCUCACAAAACUCGUAUAUACUAUCUCAGCAUCUCCUAUUUUUCAGAUGUGGAAUAUUGGACUGUAAUAUAGGUUAAAGUUAGGCCACUCCUAUUACAGUCCUAGUCUUUGAAGAAUGAGAACCAAAGCAACUAUCCAUCCAUUUCUAUUACAGAACUCGAUAUGAGAGUUUCUUCUCACUCAUUUCUAUUAUAAAAGUUAAGGGUUAUAAUCGACGUUAGCUUUGAAUCCGCUAUCCCGAUCAUAAUUUUCCUUCCUAUUCUUACUAAGUGCCACAAUCAUGAAUUGUUUUAUAAUCCAAAAGUAAAAUAUAUAUAUAUAUAUAUAUAUAUAUAUUACCUCUUAGAUUGUAAACAAAAAUAAAUAAAAAUUUACUUGGAAGUUAGAACGUAUGGUUAGAAAUUGGGGGCAUAGCUGAAAGAGACCGAAAGUGAUCGCAAUCUUAAUUAGCUGAAGAAAUUUAGUUUUGACAAAGACCGACGGACGAACAUUGACAUGUGGGGAUGGGAUGGGACCAAUUUGCAUAAUAACAAAUCAGUUUGCCUUUUCAUGAUUGUCCUUCCUUGGAUCGAAUUCAAUUAGAAAGGUCAUUAUCUCUUUGCAGAUCUAGAACAAAUAAUUAAAAUAAUAACGUGCAGACCUUACCCUUGGAAAAGGCUCUCAAAUAGCAUUAUUAUUCUAGCAUAUCUUCUCAUAAUUCUUAGUAAAUCAACGGUAUCCAUAAGAUAUUAAUACUCCAUUAUGCUUUUGAACCCUAAACCAUAAGAUGUCUUAGACUUUUUAGGACGCAAAUUCUCUUUGUAAUUUUUUUAUUUUUUAUUUUAUGCUUUUGAUGUUGGGUCUGUAAAUCUUCUUUUUUGAUGCUGGUUACCUUGAAUUCAAUGGGUAACUAGGUCAUUUUCCGCAGUUAAAUUGAAUUAUUUAAAAAAAAAUUCUUGAUGAGAAAAUAGGUCGCUAUAUUGUUGUCCGACUCUUCUGGUUAAAGCCAAGUUUAUGUUUUUAGGUAAAACGAUGAACAAAUAUUUGAAAAAUAUUCAAAAUGCGAUUUCUCAUGCUUUAAGAAGCUGGAAAAUGAAUUCGCAUACUCAAACCAAACCACAGUUAUAAAUUGUCUUAAACUUCUAAAACAAAGUUUCCAGUGUAAUUCUAUCUUGGGUCGGAACAAAACGGCCAUCUCCAGACCCGGAUCAAAAGUGAGGCCGAAAACGUUUAUUUUCAAUUAUUUUCUGAAUAUCCGGCUUUGCUGGCAUAUAUUUCACAGGCAAUUCCCUCAGAAAAGAAGGGGUUAAAUUUCAUUGCUAUCAGUAAUUUUUUAUCCACUUGACGACCAAGGCAAAGGGUAUGGGAUAAUGGGGGACUAAGAAACGAUUCCCACUGGCAAAAUCUAUUAAAAGUGACCUGUAUAUAUUAGAGUUCCAUUAUAAGCCAAAUCUAAACAAACUCUACAACCCAACUUCUGUGGAACAGAUGUGAGUACCUGCAGAAAUAUUUGACGCACGCAAAGCUCCUCCUCAAUUCUUCUAAGUUAAAAUUAAACAAAGCCACUAUAGUCGUUUGAGGGAGGCGCAUCGCUACUGACGAAGUUCAAUGAAAUUAGAAGCAGCUCUGCAGAUAGCAGGCUGGGACCCACAACCAUUCAAAAUUGCAGACCCCAUAGCAGGGCAGUGAAGAAAUCCCAGGGGAGAGUACAGAAGCACAAAAUUGAAGCUCUAUACAGAUAGCCGGCUGGGACCCACAACCAUUCAAAAUUGAAGAUCCCAGAAGAGGAGCACAAAUCCCAGGGGCCAAGGGAGUGCAGAAGAACAAAACCAAUGAAGCAGAACCAGACGACACCUCAACACAAGAAAGAAAAAGCAUAGAUCUUUAGCACCAUUCUCAGAAACACUCUUAAACAAAGAUAUGAUGUUUAUCACUUUUACCUUUAAUAAUAAUAUCCUCAAGCCUACACCUAUUUUGCAUAGAAAAUAAAACCAGCUAAAGUUAAGAAAGGAAGGAACUUAACCAAAUCAGAGAGAGUAGAGGCUGAGGGCGUCCCCCAAUUUAAACACAGUUGUGCUGAAGUCCAAGCACACAUAACAAGACUUAAUGCCAGUACAUCCUCUAAACAAAGGCAGACAGCCAUUUAUGCACUCCUCAACUCCUGCUUCGGCGACGAUCCUUCAGACCAUUACUGCAAAAAUAUAGCAGCAUACGUCAGUACAACAAAUCAGCAACAUCAAUUAUACAUUACACAACUACUCACAUGUUCUACCAUUAACAGAUCCUAACAGUAAAUAAUGUACAUGCAUGGGAUAUAUCCCAUCAUGACAUUAUCAAAUGGAAAGUCAUCCUUUCAACACAAUUAACUUCCAUGCUGUAGAACAAGGGUUUCACAGCAGUAUUUGCUAAAACGUAGUGAAAGGAACCUCACCCAUUGGCAUAGGGCAACUCCUCCCGUCCACGGUAUGGUGGGGACCUGCUACGGCUGUUCCCACGUGGUGUCAAACUGCGACGUCUAGGAGACCGCCCACGAGGACUGUAGCUCCUGCUUAACAGUCAAAAGAGUCAAAAGGCAUUAGAUAGGAGAAUACCAGAUCAACCUAGAUAAAAAUAAUAUAAGAUAUGUUUGUGAACUUGGAUCCAGCAAGGCGAACUUUCGAUACCAAAUACAUUCGAACACUACUUGUUCGAUAACUAACUACACAGAACACUGAUUAGAGGAAAAUAAAAUGGGAUGUAAAAAAAGAAUAUCUGAAAAUAGGACAUCACCUGCGACCAUAACUAGGGCUUCUACGGUAUCGAGGGGGACUGCGGCUACGACGUCUUCCAGAACCACCCCGCAGACGACAUUCACGAGCAAAAUGACCAGGCUCACCACACUCAUAGCACUUCAAAUCAGAACCACCAGAACGGCCACGACCCCCUCCACGACCACCACCACCACCACCUCUAGAGUUGUGUGAAAGCUCAACUCUCCAUCCAUUCUUACCUGUUCCAAAACAAAAUGAAAAGAAGAAACAAAAAAUUAACACAUUAUGGAGCUUUCAGAAUUUCACAACACUGAAAAACGGUGCAGAGAGAUAUGGGGGGAGAGUCAGUAAGCAAUAUAAUAUAAACUACCUGCUGAGAAAACAUAGUUUCAUGGAGGGCAUGAGACCGUGUCCUUUCAUUACACAGUUCACCAAAAACUGAAGUACAGACCUUCCCAUCAAUAAAAUGAUGGUAGAGUUGGCUAGAUUCACCCCACAAGAUAAACCAAUCAUGCAUUGUUCAGCUCAAUUAUACUGCUUCACAAACAAAAAGCUGUGGAGGGACUAAUUCUCCUCCUUACGAGUGGAAUUCAAUGAAAUAAGCUAGCUGAGAAACCCCAUUUGAAAACAAUAAACAGCCCAAUUUUAUACAUACCAUCUAUUUCACGGAUUGCAUCCUCUGCGUCUCUACUGUCAUCAAAGUCAACAAAAGCAUAGCCUGGUGGUCUCCGAGCCACCCAUACACUGCCCAAAAGUAAACAUAAAAAAUAAAAUAAAAAUUAACAACGAUCCCAAAUAAUAAGAACAAUACUUAAAAGUUCGUAAAUUACUGUAAAAUUAAAACAAAAAUAAGAAAUUGUUAGCAACUUAAUAGCUAAGUACCUUCUUAUAACUCCGAAAACGCGAAACUCAUCUUCGAGAUCUGCCUCGGAAACUCGAGGGCUCAAAUUUCCGACGUACACACGAGACAUUCUUUGAUCGAAUCUGCAAAUCACAAGCCACAAAGCAUUCAAAACAGGUAGAUAAGAAGAGCAAAUUUUUCACGCUCAUCAUCUUUUUAAUCAAAAAUUAACAAUGAUUAAGAAUGAAAUAUAGAAAUUUGGAGCACCGAUAAUCAGAUUGAAUACGAGGGAGGGCAGAGAGGAAGAGUGAGAUCUGAACCUAAUGCCGAGUAGAUAGAGAAACCCUAGCAGCUCCUUUACUCGGUUCGACUUUGUUUGGGAGCAAGUCGCUGAGGUUUUGGAUUUUAUAUAAAAGAGUAAUUCAUCGCCGUACCCCUCUAAAGUUUAAAAUCUCGAAUUAGCCCCUCAGAAUUUGGUUUUGCUACAUAGCCCCUCCUACUUUUAUGAUGAUCUGUUUUUAAUUAGGGUAAACUGCCAAAUAUCAUCCCGAAUUAUAUCGAUUGCCGAACUUAGUAUUCUGAAUUAUUUUUUAAAAUCAAUUUAGCCCUCAUACUAUUUUAAAUGGUCAAUUUAGCCCAUACCGUUAGUUUUUAACCAAUUUCAUCUAAAUUUUUCAAAAAUGUCACGUGAAUAACAUGUGUCUCAACAAAUAAUAAUAAAAAAUAAUUUUUUUUAUAAAUGUUUUAUUGUUUAACAAAAAAAAAAUCCAUUAGCAGAUCCACCAACACACCCCCCUCCCCUCCCCCCUUCCCAUUCUCCUCCUCAACCAAAUUCUCAUCCCUCAAAUCGGAUGUGAAUCACCAACGUAUAGAAAAAUAAUUACCGAUAUGUUUGAAGUCACAAUAUAUUUUGCUCUUCACAUACCCUUUCUCAGCAACCAAACAACCGAUUGGGGAUGAGGGAAGACAAUAUAUCUUAUCAAAUCUCCAACUUUCCAAAGCAUUCAAACACGAAGCUUUAUACGUUGCCGUCAAAUCUCUCUCCACCAAGGCCACUUUCCUAAGUGCCUCAGCCACGACCUUCUUCAUGGCCCAAUCGUCAUUGCUUAAAAACUCAACUACGCACGGCAAAGCUAGUCCAACAUGCCUCCGUGGAGAUGCCGACAAUGCUCCCAACAAGCUUCAUCACGUAAAACCACCCAAAAGCUUCUAACUUUCACGAUUUGGCACCAAUCCAAUUCAAUUUUCCUUAAGAAAAAACCUAUUAUAUCCCAAUUUCCACCGUAUAUAAGAAAAUCUUCACAUACCCACGAAAGUUUUUCUGAUGUGAAGUUGAACUCUGAAUACAACAUAAAAAAUUGAAGAAAACCCAGAAGUUUUCUUCCCCAAAGCUGCCAAAAUAUUGAACCAAAUCACAUGUAACACAAAACCCACAAAGACACCAACAAUGAGAGCUCGUAUGGAGCUCAAGCAUAAGCACCCAAACAAUAUUCACCUUAAUUUCCCUUGAAACCGUGAAAUUUUCAAAUGGCAAAUGAGAAUGCAAAAAUUGAAAGGUUCCUUGUGUGAAAGGGGAGACGGUGGCUUCCGUUGGAGGAGAGGGGAGUUGGUGUUUGGGUGGGGAUUUAUUGAUUUUCUUUAUUCUUUCUAUUUUGAAAUUAUAUUUUACAAUUUUUUUUUUGGUACUAUGCCUUGUAAAAUGACACACUUACCCUUAUAAUUAAGGGAAAAUUGGAUAGAAGUGUAAAAAUUUGACAGCAGGGGCCCAGUUGACCAUUUAAAAUAGUUUGAGGGCUAAAUUAGCUCAAAAAAAUAAUUCAAGAUGCUAAGUUCGACGAUCUAUAUAGUUCAGGAGGGUAUUCCGCAAUUUACCCUUUUAAUUAUGAUUAAAUAAGAGCCCCCUUAUGAAAAUAAAUGCUUCUACAUUUAAAAAAAAAAUGUACUUACACUUUCUUACUCGAAUGUUUAAAUAUUAUCCUCGUUUUAAUUCCUAUACUUUAUCAUUUGAUCGUCACGUAAUAGGAGAUUAAAUGUAAGAGAUAUGUUUCAUAUUUUUUCUAUCAUGUCUUGUUAGGGUAAUUCAACGAUUGUGUGAUGUAUCGUUAACAAUUGUAUAAUUGAAAGAGCUCACACGUUCGAGUUUCUCCUCCCAUUUUAUUAUAAAAAAAUAAAAGUUUAUAAAUUUACUUUUUUUGUUUUUUGUUUUUUUUUUGUGUGAUCUCAAACCACAUGGUUGAGUUUUUUUUUUUUUUUUGGUGAAACCACUAUGAUAUUAGAAUAUUUACUUGAUUUCUUAUUUUUGAUUUAUUGUAAUUGAGUAUAAUUUAUAAAUAUAAAGGCAUAUGCCUCAAAUGAUGAAAACAUUCAACAAUCUGAAAAAUAUUUUGGAUUAACUAAAAUGCAAAGAAACCACAGUUUAAUAUCAAGAGGAUAAAGGAUAAGAAACUUCGAUUAAAAAAAAAGGAUAAGAAACUUAUACCAAUUGGGUGUUAGUUGCAUUGGCCUAAGUCUUUGACGUGCUUCUAAGUUGUCUUGGGUUCAAACCUCAUGUUGCCUCGAAUCAACAGGGCCAAAAGAAGCUCUAUGAAAAAGCUUUCAGAUUCCCUCGAUUUUGUCCCUCUCCAACUUUCAAUUUCAUCCCUUUUCCCACCCUCAAUUCCGUCCCUUUCCAAAUUGAGCGCGAUGUGAGAAGUGUGUUAAGUAUGAGAACUGACCUGGGUAAUUCAAUUUGCGCUGAAUGACUAAAAUAAUCCUAAAAAGAGAGUCAACGUGAGUCAAAUGGACGGAUUAAUGGAUGAAAUGUUCGAAUUUUAACGAUGGGGGAACAUUGAUAAUAAAAUUUAAAUCGAGCCAUUAAUUCACUUUUAAAAAAAAAGGUCAAGGAGUAAAAUGAGAGUUAUGUACAAAUUCAGGGGCAAUUCGACAGAUUACCCUUACUUAUAUAUAUUAUGUUAAAAAACAAAUAAAUAGCUUCAUUGGAUUCUUAGGUGGUCUUGGCGUGUUCUUCUUUUGGAUCUAGGGUUGUUCCAAUGGUGUGAUGUGAAAGGGCUGAAGAAAAACAUGAACAGAACACGUUAAAACAACAAAAUUUUGAAAUCGAAUUUUAUACAAAAUAUUUGCGUUGGCUCGAUGGAGAGAGAGUACGGCAGUGAUGUCGAAUGGCAGAUCGAGGGUGAGAUAAAGAGCAGUAAACUGGAUCUAUGGAGAAAAGAUCACCUCAUCUCCCAAUACACAAGACAAGAACCAAAGUGGCUGAGUCAGAAACCAACCCACCAACAUCUUAAUUGAAGUUGUGAGAACGUGAGAAGGUGGUGAGAAUAUGAGAGAGGAGGAAAAAAGACUUGAAGAAAACAUGUGAGAGGAGCACACACAGAGGAAAAGAAAGUGCAGAACAAUGGCCUAUCUAAAUGGAGCCGACUGGUGGCAGUUGGCUUUCUCCAUUUUGGGACUGAUAAGAGACUCACUUUAAGUAAAAGUACAUUAAGCAUAAGCACUCUGGUGUACCACCGCUCUUCAACAAGCACUUUGGUGUUAUUAGUUUCCAAAAAAUAUUCAAAACACACUAAUAUGACUUUGUAUCUAAAUAAUCAGUAGUUAAUGGCUGUUUUUCCAGUAGUGAUUAAAGACUAGUAAACAUGCCAUUAGAUCAUUGAUCAAGUUCAUUUUCACUACAACUUGGGGUUCCAAAAGUAAAAUAAUUUGUAUACAACAUAAGUUUGAUCAAGAAUCUGUACUUCAAAUUCAAGUGAGACUCAUAUUUGGGUAUUUGGUCACCUAUUGACCAGAAAAUGCACAAAGUUGGUCAAUAAGCUUGUUUAGGGCUUCAUGGGAUGAGCCACCUUCUUGAACUGCACGCCAAGCAACUCUUCCCAAGGCUUGUGCUCUCUCCCUUGCAUCCCUUCCUUUCUCUCCUUCCAUCAACUCUCUCACACCUUCACAAAUUGCCUGCCUUGAUACCUCAAUCCCUGAACCCAAAUCAUCAUGGGUCUUUCUAAUCCCAAGUCCAGCCCCAAGCCCUUCAGCAACAAGCUUAGCAUUCAAGGACUGUUCGGCAAUCAUAGGCCAAGCCAAAAUGGGCACACCUGCAGAUAUACUUUCAAUCACCGAGUUCCACCCGCAAUGACUAAAAAACCCUCCGAUCGCUCGGUGUGACAAUAUUUGUUGUUGGUCCACCCAUUCCCUUACGAUCAAUCCUUUACCUUCAAAGUAUUCAAUAUCAACGUUAAUUUGAGAGUCCGAUAAAAAUAUCGAGAAAAUAUUGAAACUGAGAUAAAUUAUAAAAACAAUUAGCUUACCUUAUUUUUUUGUCUUAAUAAAAAAAACAAAAAUAAAAAAAAACAAUUAGCUUACCUUCUAACCUCUCUUCCAGUCCAUCAGGUGGAGACCAAGUGGUUGACCGCACCACUAAUAGAAAUGGAACCAAAGCCUCCUCCAAGCCCAAACCCACUUGAUCAAGUUGAGCAUCUGACAAGUCUGCUUGUGUUCCAAACGAGACGUAGAGCACAGAGCCCAGAGUGACUUGAUCAUUGAGAAAUUGGAUCAACUUGUUGGGUUGGUUCUGGCUGAUGGGUUUGUUGAUCCCUUCAACUUUGUCAUACAAGAAAAGAGGCCCCAAGCACCAAGCCCUAGCUCCAUUUUCAUAGAAAGUUUCAAAUGAUGAAACGGUGCCGCUUUCAAGCUCCUCAAAGCUGUUCACCACAACCCCCCAGCUGUGGCAGUCAGCUUGCCCCACAUCAGACAUGAACUGGAAAAACGGGUCGUUUUGAUCAGUUGCUUGAAUGAGCUGAGCUGGUAAUUCAGAGACACUCAGAUCAAAGGGAAGCUCGAGGCCUGGCAAGUCUAUUGGGUCCAAAACUGACUUUGCUUUUGUGUGUGGCAUGUGCACACACACAGAUUUGCAUAUGGCCAUUGACAAGACACACAUGCCAUGAAAAACCAAUCUAGGCACCCCAAAAGCUUGGCAUGAAGACAGAGUCCAGCCCAAGAAGAAAUCUGAAAUGACACAGAUGGGAAGUGAUUUGGACACGCUCAUGCCUUGGAGGACUUGUUCAAAGGGUUUUUGGAGCUGUUUGGUGGCCAUGAGGAAUGGGAAUAAGAACUCCAUGGAUGGAAGUUGGGAGGUGUUUUCUGUGCCUUGAGGCAAGCCAUGAAUGAUGGGAAAUGGGAUCUCAACGAGUCCGAUGUUGGGGUGGUUUUCUGUGUCUUUGAAAAUUAAUUUUGCGUUGGCUGGAGUUGUGAUGAUGGUGACUUUGAUCUUGCGGUGGGAAAGAGCUUUGGAAAGAUCUAGUAAUGGAAGAGUGUGGCCUUGAGCCAUGAAAGGGAAGAUAACAACAUGGGGAGCCUGUGGGGAUGCCAUUGUUUGAUCUGUAAUUCUGUAUGUGUGGAGUUGCUUGUAUAUAUAAUAUCUCUGCUUAUAUACAUGCACAUAUAUAAUCAAUUAAGUUUAAGACUAUGCAUGCACAUAUGUAUAUACAUGGAAACAAUAUCCUCAUGAUAUGCUAAUUGAAAGUAGAUUUCGUUGCCAAAUUUGUAAGUCAACAUAUACUACAAGGGAUGACUGACUCAAAUAAUGUAAUUCACCUAUUGUAUAAUUCAACGAAAUUAUACCAUUACGUAGUAUCAUCAAUCCAUUUAGAGCUUCUUUUCUUUUUCUUUUUUCUUCUUUUUUUGAUCAGGAACUAUAUAAUAUGUAGCUUUCGGUUAUCAAAAGAUAUGUCAUCAAUUUCAAGUGUUGGGAGCGGCUACUCAAGAGGCAAACAAUCUUAUUUACUUAACUAAUCCAUUUAAGUUAUAACAUGUGUAUAUUUAAAAGUAUAAACUUAUCACUCAUUGAUCGUAUUAUAUAUCACACAUCUGUAAGAUCAUAAAUAGAAAUUUCUCAAUCCAGAUCCUCUAUAUGAAAAGUUGGAAGCAAUCCUCAUGUACAGUACAUUGUCCGAUCGAAUGGACAAGACAAAAUAGGCAGAUUUUCAAGUCAACAUAAAAUAGUAAACGAAUAACUACAACAAUAAUUCAUGCUUAGGUGAAUGCGAAAUAAAUACUAUUCUACAAUUGCUGCAUGAGCCCACUACCAUAAAACUUGUGGGGUACCAAUCUAUAUGUCCAAGGCAUUGGUGUGGGGUUUUUACGUAAGGGUCCACAUCAAUGACUGGUCUUUCUUUCACAAAUUCACGUAAGAUAUGAUAACGUAAUCAAUAAAAAAAAAAUUAAGAAAAACUUAAGUAUUACCGGAGCGGCUAUACUAUUUAUUAUAAAAAUGUAAAAAAAAAUAGAGUAUAGUCGACUAUACUAUUUAUUAAAAAAAUUUAAAAAAUCUUUAGUAUAGCAGCGCGGUUCUACGAUUUAAUUAUAAUAGUAUUUUAUUCGUAGGGGAUGCAUUCAUCUGUUAAAUGCAUGUGGAGAAGCAUUUUGUAUUUAAUACGAUACAGUAUUUUAAGACAUGGCAUGCUUUUGCUUACGCUUCACUUUUCAAACAACAUUUUACAUGAAGAUUACUACCUUAUCUCUUACUACUAUACUCAUAAAUCUUUGUUUGAAAUUGAAAAUUUUGUAUAAAAAAAACGUGUAUUAGACAUGAAACAUACAUACAUAUAUGUAUUGUACGUUUGGUUUUAAAAAAACGUGUAUUUUCUAAACUAUUCUUAUCGAUAAACGAAAUUCAAGGAAAUUUUUUUUUAAAACAAAAUAAAGAAGCCAGUAUAGCCACACGCCUAUACUAUUUAUUAAAAAAAGUUUUAAAAAACACAAGUAUCGUUGCACAGCUGUACUAUUUAUUAGAAAAAUAUUUAAACAAGUAUAGUUGCGUGGCUUUAUUAUUAAUUUAAAUUUUUUUUAAAAUCUUCAGUAUAGAGGUGCGGCUAUAUUAUUUAUUAAAAAAAACCUACAUAUAGCCGGGCAGCUAUACUAUUUAUUAGAAAAUUUUAGGAAAAAAAACUAAAGUAUAGCCGCAUGGCUAUACAGUAUUAACAAAAUUUUAAAAAACUGAAAUUAGAGUAUAACUGCAAGGUUAUAGUAUUUAUUAAACAAAUCUUCAGUAUACCCAUGCACCUAUACUAUUUAAUUAUAAUAGUAUUUUAUACGAAGAGAGAUGCAUUCAUCUGUUAAAGACAUGUAGAGAAGCAUUUUGUAUUUGAUAUGGCACAAAGGAUUUUGGGAGAUGGUGUGCUUUGCUUAUGCUUAUAUAUAUAUCAGUCUCAUUUUAUUGAGAGAUCCUUUAAAUAAUUUUAUUUGAGGAAUGCCCUUUAGGGUCCCUGUACGAAUUUUUCUUCAACGACCUAAACCAUCUAAUUUUUAAAUCUACAUUCAUAGAUUGUCCUUGCAAAAAAUUAAACAAAUCGGAAACCAUUUCAACAUCCAAUUGUGUCCUACAAAAUCAAUGAAUAUUGUACUUCAAGAAAGUACUAAAAUUUCAAUUACUCAAUUGAGUAGUCAAAUGAUAUCGGAUUCAAGGAUUUUUUGUAGAUAUGAUCUUUGAAUUAUUAUCUUAAAAAAAUAGACGAGUUGGAUUAGUAAAAUAGAAUACAGAGUGGGCCCUACAAGGGUGACCCUCAAUAGAAGCUCUAUGUAUAUAUAUAUAUAUAUAUAUAUAUUAUGUUCAACAAUAAGUGAAACAAAAACAAAAAAAAUUAGUUGUGGGAGUAAAUAAUUUGGCUUUCAAUCACGAGACUCCACGUACACAAGAAUAUCUCAUAGGUCAAUAAAAUUGACACUAAAAAUAGGGAUAUUAUCUUUAUUUAAAAAGAUAAUAUCACCAAUUAAGAUAUUAUCCUAAUUAUGAGAUAUAAUCAUCAUCAAAUUAGGAGAUUUGAUCCUAAUCAAAACCCUAAUGGGCUCAAUCUCUACAAUUUGGAGAAAGAACUAACUCAUCCUAAAUAUAGUUUAUUCUUUGCAACCCUAGCACCUAAAGAGCCUAUAAAUACACGGCUACAAAACCGCCAACCUCUCCAUACUUGUCUCUUCACAAGGCUCCGGUCACCACUCACGACUCCUGCCAUCCAGUUAUCACCGUAGAGUAAUUUAUGUACCCUUUUUUUAGCUAUUGUUUCGCCUAGAUUCAAUCAAACUAACUUAGGCAUCGGAGGACCUCUGGCCAACACCUCCAGAUGUGGUCUAUUUACUCCAGUCGUUUUUACAAUAAUCGAGAGAGAGAGAGAAGGAAGAUGUGAAACCCCGUAUUUAUAAAAUUAUAUAUAUAUUAUAUUUCAAGAAAUUAUAUAUAUAAUUGCCUUGGUACAUAUUGUACUUUCAUAAAUAUUUUCAUUAAUAAAAAUAUACUUUCAAUAAAUAUAUGAAUAAGUUUUAUUUUCGUUGCAUGCAUGUUACGAAUACUAGGUGGCUAAGUUUAAAUGAUUGUAGUGAUCAACUUUGAUUGAUAUUAGUGAUAGACAUGUCCAUUUUUUAUAGCCAAGCAAGGAGCAGUAUCACCUUGUGAGUUGUCAUAUGAAUAUCUUGAGUUUGAUUAGCUUUGAACACCUCAUGCUAUAAUUUUUUAUAGCUGGCAGUAUUACAGUGAUAUGCACAUGCCAAAUUGACACCACUUACUUGAUAUACCGACUUUCCCCUUCUAUCUUAUCUUUAGCCGACUUUUAUUGUACUAUAAAUAGGAGUCUACAAUUACAAAUAGUUUACUACAUCUAGAGAAAGGCAUGCAUAGUUUGCAUGAGAAACGAGAGACAAAUAGUGGUAGAGAGGAAAAAAAAAAAAAAAAAAGAGAGUGGUAAUAAUAUUCUUGGAGGAGUUAAAGGUCGGAGCUUGUAUUUUCUUAACUUGGAGCUAGUUUUGGAAACGAGGUAGGGGGUUUCUUGGUGACCUUUUACAAAGAUUGAUAUAAUUAAAUUUUAUGAGCUCUAUAUUAUGUGUGAUAUUGUAUAAUGUUCUUGAUAUAGGAUAUUUACGUAUUGUGAACUAUUUGAAUAAUGUUGGCAUACUUAUAUCAUGUCAUGGUAAUUGGUUGGUGUUGUUGGAUUGAGAAAAUAAUGAUGGAAAAGAGGGUAAUGGAUAAGGAUUUUUGUGUAGUUGAGUCUAACCAUUGUAGGGACCAAGUCCAGGCGAGCACAUGUGCACAGUAGACUAGGAAAUCGGCGGUAUAAUUAUCGAUUGGGUGAUUUAGGCUUGGAGAUCAAUGGUAUAGACAAGAUAACUAGCAAAAGGGGAAUUAUGAGAUAACUAUGAUGUGUGUUAGUUUAUAUAAUGGGGCAUUUGAAAUCACGGUAAAAUGCAUGGUAUGGGACAUGCAUAUUUGAUUACCAUAUUAUAUACAUUAACAGGUUGGGUAGAAUUGAAGAGCAUUCAUGCAUUAUUAUUAUUAAUGUGAUAUUAUUUGGUUGUGUGAUUGCAUGUCACUUAAUUUAGUUCUAUCAAUCUAUUGUGGUAAGGUCUCAUGUCCCUACUGAGUUUUAUUUAUUUCUUGUAAACUUGUAAGAUUUCGAAUCUAUUUUUCUAUAAGAGAAGUUUAUUUUAAACCCUGUUUCGGUCUCUUUUCUUUUUAUUUUAUUUUUUAUUUUUUCACGCCCGAGCUCAGAGAUUCCAUCGACCUCCAAGUCUAGCGAUGACAGAAGAUCAAAAGUUGAAGAAUCCACAAGUGAAUAUUCUUCCGUGAGAAUAUUUGCUCGUAGUUUUGGCCUGUUCUUCUUUUGGAUCUAGGUUGCUUCAAUGGCGUGAAGUGAAGGGGCUGAAGAAAAAGAUGAGCCGAACACGUUAAAACAACGAAAUUUUGAAAUUGAAUUUUAUACAAAAUAAUUAUAAAAAUCAAAGUUUCUUACAGAUUAUUUUGCCUUGGCUAGAUGGAGAGAAUGUGUGGCAGUGAUGUCGGAUGGUAGAUCCAUGAAGAGAUAGAGAGCAGUAAACUGGAUCUAUGGAGAAAAGAUCACCUCAUCUCCCAAUACACAAGACAAGAACCAAAGUCACUGUCAGAAACCAACCCACCAACAUCUUAAUUGAAGUUGUGAUAACGUGAGAAGGUGGUGAGAAUAUGAGAGAAGAGGAAAAAAAAUACUUGAAGAAAAACAUGCGAGAGGAGCACACAUGGAGGAAAAUAAAGUCAAGAAAGGAGAACUUAGAUUAGAAGAUGGAUCAAGUUUUGGGGAAAGAAAGAUAAAGCAACGAGAAAGUGGACUUGUCUAGGAGACUGCACCAAUAUCUGUUUUGAAAUUCAUUGCAUUUCAAGAUCUCUCUUCUGUUUUUUUAUAAUCUCUACAAAGUAUUUAAAAUAUCUCUUUUUAUUAGCUGGAAAAUAAUAAUAACUAGCUUUUCUGCACGCGCUUCCGCGCGUGCGAGAGGCUUUUUUUUUUAAUCACGCGCUACGCGCGACUUACAUAGUUUGACAAAUAUUUUUUCGCAAUUGUAUUUAUAUAGAUUUCCGUUUCAAUAGUUUCAUAUUUUAAUCGCGUGAGUCUGAUGCAUGAUCGUCUUAAAAGUUUUCUUUUUAUCGCCCAUAUUUUUCUAGACGUCCAUCUUAACAGUUUCUUUUUGUUCUUUUAUAGCGUGUAAACUGCUAAAAUGGAGGUUUAGAAAAAUACGGGCGAUAAAUGAAAACUCUUAAGACGACGAUUUAUCAGACGUGGGCGAUUAAAAUAUGAAACUGUUGAAACAGACAUCUAUAUAAAUAUAAUUAUGAAAAAAUAUUUGUGAAACUAUAUAAGUCGCACGUAGCGCGCAUGAUUUAAAAAAAAAGCAUCUUGCAUGUGUGAAAGCGCGUACAAGGAGGCUAGUCUAAUGAACUUUAGGAGCUAAGGGGAUUCUUAUUCAAUUAAUUACUCACACGUUAAUAUUACCCAAAGCAAAUCCAACAUUAAUAGGAAAAUCUCAAGUAACAUAAUAUUUUCAUUCUACACAACAUCGUAGUUUUAUAUUCUUGACAUAAAUAUUUACAUAAUAUGCACAUAGGAGGAAGACAUGCAACGAUCAAGACCACUUGUGCCACCCGUUCCUCUCUAAUUGAUCUUUCACUUUUUCAUUGUCAAUUUAUACAUAAAUAACAUGAGAUGAGACCAUGUUUAAACAUAUACUUUUAAAUUUGUAAUUGACAAAUUUUAGCAUAAUUUAGGAACACGUAUACUCAGUGGCGGAUCCACGUUGGGACAAGAGGGGUCGGACGACCCCUUGGAAGGCUGGAAAUUUGGCAAGAGAGUCCAUGAAAGCCCCCUUGCACAGCUGCUGGAAGCCCCCUUAUAUGCACACAAUGUGCUCGACGAAAUGCCCCAACGAAAUGUCCUGCGCAGCUGCGCCGCGCCUUGCGCGUAAUUUUUUUUUAAAACCAGCCUUGCCAAACGACGUCGUUUGGUCAAGGCUCAGUCAAAUUUUUUUUUAAUUGACCUGGCCUCAAAACGACGUCGUUUUGGGCCAGGUUUUAAAAAAAAAAAAAAAAAAAAAAAACAGAACAGCACACACGCACAGCAGCUCUGCACAGAUUCAUUUUCUCCAAACCUUUCAUUCCCAAUUCCACAGCCCCUCUUCCCAUCCUCUCAAACCCUAACCUCCCAACCUUGGACAACCUCCAUCAACUCUUCACCGGUGGCCCAGUGCCGAUCACCACCUCCUUCUACCGCCGUCCGCCGUCCAUUUUUUAAACUACAAGUAAGUAAGCAUGGAAAAUCUGAUAUUAAUAAUUAUAGUGAUAAUAUAUAUUGUUGAUAUUGAUAUUUUUUUUUAUGUAAUGAAAUUUAUGGAUAUGGAUCAUAUUGAUUGAUUGAGUUUAUGCUUGAAAUUUAUGGAUAUGAAUCAUAUUGAUAUUUUUUUUUAUGUAAUUAAAUUUAUGGAUAUGAAUCAUAGUGAUAAUCAUAUUAAUGUAGAUUGAUUGAGUUUAUGCUUGAUUGAUAAUAUGAAUUGAUUAGGUAUAUUAAAUAUUGAUUGCUAUUUGAUAUGAUAAUUUGGUAUAUUGAAUAUUGAUUGAUAUGAGUUUAGGGAGUAUAUUGAAUAUUGAGAGUGGGUUAUUGAAAUUUUCAUAUUCAUAUGAUAAUUUGGAUAAAAAUUAAUGAUUGAUUGAAUUAAUUGAUUUGUAGAUUUAUGGAACGAUUCUUUAAAAGAAAAUUAUCUACGGAUAGUUCUUCUCUGUCUAAUCCAGGUAGUUCAAAUGCAAGACCAAUUGAAGUAGAUGAGAUCUUAGCUAAUCUUCAAGCAGACCCUGGACUAAGAACUUGAAUGGCGGAUUAUAGUCCUAAUAUUAGGGAUGAGAUCCGAAGAGCAUAUCUACAAAAGGGACCUUGUCAAUCUAGAAGUUAUAAAUUCCCACAAACUAAUUAAUCAGGAAUUAAUAGACGCUUCAUUGCUCAUUGGUUUGAUGAUCAUGAUUGGUUGGAAUAUAGUAUUGCUAAAGAUGCUGCGUUUUGUCUUCAUUGUUAUCUCUUCAAAUCUAAUUUUGAUCAAGUGGGUGGUGAUGCAUUCACUGGGGUAGGCUUCAAUAAUUGGAAGAAGGCGAAAGAAAGAUUUAACCUUCAUAUUGGACCGGUUGGUAGUGUUCACAACCAAGCUAGAGAAGUUGCUUACAAUUUGAUGCAUCAAACUACACACAUUGAAACAAUUGUGAUCAAGCAAACAAGCCAAGCUCGCACGGCUUAUCGCACUUGCUUGAAUGCAUCACUUAAGUGCACUAGGUAUUUGUUGCGGCAAGGGCUUUCUUUUUGUGGUCAUGAUGAAAGUGCACAAUCAAGUAAUAAAGGGAAUUAUUUAGAGCUCUUGCAAUUUCUUGCGGAUCAUGAUGAAAAAGUUAAGGCCGUUGUGUUGGAAAAUGCUCCGGAAAAUUUAAAGUUAAUAGCUCCUUCAAUUCAAAAAGAUCUUGUCAGUUCUUGUGCCAAAGAAACCAUUGAUCUUAUCUUGAGUGAUGUAAAAGAUAGAUAUUUUUCAAUAAUGGUGGAUGAAGCACGUGAUGUUUCAAUAAAGGAGCAAAUGGCGAUGGUGUUGCGUUAUGUGAAUGACAAAGGACAAAUAAUUGAAAGGUUUGUGGGGGUUCAACAUGUAACCGACACUACUUCAAGUGCACUAAAUGAAGCAAUUGAUAAAUUCUUUUCUUCCGCGAAUUUGAGCUUUUCCAAGCUACGAGGACAUGGUUAUGAUGGAGCUAGCAAUAUGAGAGGUGAGUUCAAUGGCCUUAAGACAAAGAUUUUGAGAGAACAACCUUGUGCAUUUUAUGUUCAUUGCUUUGCUCAUCAACUUCAACUAGCUCUUGUUGCGGUAGCAAAGAAAAACAUUGAUGUCAACUCUUUUUUCACAACGGCUAAUAGUUUGGUUAAUGUGGUUGGAGCAUCUUGUAAGCUUCGCGAUGCACUUAGAGCACAAUACCAAGAAGAGCUUGUGAGAGCUUUUGAAGAUGAUUGUCUUAUAACGGGGCGGGGCUUAAAUCAAGAAAGGACUCUCAAACGUGCCGGCGAUACACGAUGGAACUCACAUUAUGGUACGUUGAUUAGUAUCAUUUCUAUGUUCCCAUCUGUGGUGAAUGUGCUUCAAAUGAUUGUUGAUGAUAAUCCUAAUGAUAGUUCGGGUGAAUCCUAUAAGUUAUGGAGAGAAAUACAAUCUUUUGAGUUUGUGUUUCACUUAUUUGUAAUGAAAGCUAUAUUGGGAAUAACAAACACUUUGUCUCUAGCAUUGCAAAAGAAAGAUCAAGACAUUGUGAAUGCAAAGUGAAAACAUGCAAGGAAAACCUGCAGUUGAUGAGGGAUAAUGAGUUUGAAGAAUUGGUUGAGCAAGCAUUCUCGUUUUGUUACAAACAUGAUAUUAUAGUUCCUACCAUGGAUGAGGAAUAUGUAAUUCCAGGGAGAUCACGGCAUAAUGCUCCAAUGAAGACAAAUUCUCAUCGUUAUCGUGUGGAGAUCUUUAUUCAUGUAAUUGAUGGGCAACUUGCGGAAUUAAAUGAUCGCUUCAACGAGGUAAGUACUGAGUUACUUACUUGUUUGUCAUGCUUGAGUCCAAAAAAUAACUUUGUGGCUUUUGACAAACGAAAGCUAGUUCGUCUUGCUCAAUUUUAUCCUUAUGAUUUUUCGGAUAGAGACUUAUUGAUGCUUGAAGAUCAACUUGGUGUUUAUGUUCAUCAUAUGCGUUCGAGUAGUGAUUUUUCUCAAUUGGAAGGGAUUAGUAGUCUUGCGGAAAAAAUGGUGGAGAAAGGAAUGCAUGAAAUAUUUCCUUUUGUGUAUUUGCUUCUUACAUUGGCUUUAGUUUUACCGGUUGCAACUGCAUCAGUGGAUAGGGCAUUUUCCGCUAUGAAUAUUAUUAAAAAUCCACUUCGCAACAGAAUGGGAGAUCAAUGGUUGAAUGAUAGCUUGAUUGUUUACAUUGAGAGAGAUAUUUUUGCUUGUAUUGAUAACGAAAUUAUAAUGCAACGUUUUCAGAAUAUGAAAACUCGUCGUGGACAAUUGUAACUUGUAUUAUUGGUUUUGUUAUGAAUUAUGAAUGGAAGUACUAUCUUUCUAUCUUUUUAGCAUUAUUUUCUUUGUAGAAAAAUUUCAGAACUUUUACACUAAGCCCCCUUGGCUACAUAAUCCUGGAUCCGCCAUUGCAUAUACUCACCUUCAAUUUUGAUAGUUUAUAUUUUGCUACAUGCCUACUCUAAUUAUCAGAAGAAAACUAUACAAAAAAUAAUGUCAUUUUCAAAAAUCAAGAGACAAAAGAAAAAUCUUUUCGUUUCUAUAUAAGAAGCCAAAUUUAAUAAUAAAAUAAUUUCUAAAUGUGCAUCUCAACAGUUUGUUUUUUUUCUUGAAAAAUGCUAGGCUUACCACAUUUUUCAUACCACAUUGUGAAUGUGAUAAGCUUAGCAUUACUCUUUUUUCUUUCAUCGCCUGUCACAGUGGCAUUCGCAAUUGCUCUUAUGCGAUAGUGUGCUUUUUAUUCAUCAAUAAAAUUUAUUUGAAGACUUGAUAAUGAUUAAGUUGAAUUUCUCCAGGAAUUCCUCCUAUGCAAGUGUGGGCCCAUGUCGUGGCAUUCGCAAUUGCUCUGACGUGGAACUUAUUUGAAGCCUACGUGUUGUAUUGGUGGUUAAACCUCUGGAUUUGAAAAUAUACCAAAUUUGCCGUGCUAACAAAAUUUAUCCUUUCUUUUCUUUUAUUAUUUUUUUCAUUUGGCUCCUUUUGUUUCUCAGCAAAGAAGAACAAAUGAUCAUUUCAACUGUUAUAGUCAAUCAAAUUCUUUGAUCUCAUUGUUGUUAGGAAACAAAUAUUUAAUACAACACAUAAUUUUUUAUGAAUAUAACUAAAUUUCAAGGCUGAUAAACCUCGAGAAGUUGAAGACCCACACGUGCAACCGAUCUACCUACAGCAACGAUGAGAUGAGAGAACAAUAACUCCUGCACUACAAUUAUCGUGGGUUCGAUAAUUCAUGAAGCCAGUAGCAAAAGAAAACUUGAAGUAUAUCUUGUAACCCAAACCCAAACAUAUGAUUCUGUAUUCAGAAGGAAUAAAACCAUGAAACAAAAAAAAUAACUAACUAACUAACUAACUAACUAAAGCCCGAUUAAGCAUCCAAACAGAUGAUAUAUCACUUUAGUGGUGUAAUGAAAACAUAGAAUAAACAAUUAUUUAAUGUAAUCGGUUUUGUUGAAAGCAGCUCACCAAUUCCUCUGCAAGCCUCCUGCACUUUGGGAAGUUGAACCCCCCUUGAAAACCUACAAUGUUAACAAUUCACAUUAAGGAACGAAAGUAAAAGAAAAUAGCCAUUUGAACGAAAUUUGAAACAGACGCAAUAACUAAUUGCAUAUGUCUUUAUUUAAAACCAAUCUCAAUAGAUCAUAGUCUAAUUGCAUACGUCUGCUUGUACAUCAAAGCCUCCAGCUGCUGUCUUCUUUGUCACCAAUUUAACUAUUAAAUAAACAAAUAUCAGCAUAAAAACAAGCAAACCUCUAAAAAGAGAAGAAACACAGCCACGGCCAGUAAGUCCUUUAGUAGUUUUCCUCUCCUUGAACUCCCUUCAUCUCUAUCAUCCUCAUUUUGCUUUCCUCUACCAAAGGAAUCCCAGGAGGGAAAAAAAAAAUAGAAGGAAAAAAAUCAUAGCAUCUGUAUACAUGCGGUCCUCCUCGUCUUAGAACCCUUUCACCCCAUUCACCUUCCUGACUUGGGUUGGGUUUCAUAUCACAAUCAUGGCCAAAAGAGAUGUUCUCACCUACCAACUGCUCCACAUAACCAAGUGAGCAGGGGUUUAUAUAUAUAUAUAUAAUAAUAGUAGAAAUAUAGCAAUAGUAAUCAUUGUCAUCAGUUUAACACAAUCUAUAAGUUAUGGCAAGUUUAAAUUAUAUAUGAAGAGACAACAAUACACAAAAAGAAGAUUGCAUUUCCUGAAUGCAGUAAUGUAUAUGGAUUAAACUAUUUUUCAUUCUUACAAAAAUGCAAUCAUUGCAGCAAACAUAAACAGAUUGCUUCUUUAUAUAACCUGAGAAGAGAACCAAACAACGCACAGUAAAGAAAUAUAACAUAAUAACAAAUACACAAAAUUCGUGAUGAAAGAAUAACAAAACCCACCAUUUCAUAAAAUGAACGACCAAAGAAACAAAUAUGACACUUGUUGCAACAUCUCUCUGUUUUCUCUUCAAAGUAUUCUCUGCAAAAGAGUGACGAAAAAAAAAACUCCACCAUGUCAUUCGAAUACGUAGAACAAAACCAAAUACAUUUUAUCAAACACCUACCCUGCGAGUUAAUCAUGCAAGUAAACACCUACCCUAUUCUUAGAGAGUCAGCAACUGUUCUUGAAUAAUCGAGAAUCCAAAUAUAAGUUGAAUAACCAAACUUUCAUUCAUAUCUUAAAUUUCAUACCUACCAUUUCAUAUAGCAAAUAAAAAUCAAUCCGAUAAAUGGUGAGCAUGCAGCAAAAGGAGUAAGUUUCUCAAAAAUCUCUUACCCACUGUAAUUUACCGUUUGAUUUGGACAUGGGUCUGAUAUGAACACAAAAGCCAUGAGAACCGUUCAACAUACACGAUAGAGAAAUAUGGAAAAUCAUCAACAAACACCUUUUCCUCUAAAACCUUCUCUGAACGUGAAAGAUCACAAAACCCAAUCAAAGAAAGAAUAUAAUACAAAUAAGAAAGAAAGAUCUGUUAGGCUUACCACCUUCUAAACUUUUAGUUGAAAUCAUAGGUGUUUAAUUCUUCGAGAUUCUGUGUGUUCCUGGAGAUGCUGGGAAGGAACCCAAUUAAAUGAGAAAUUUUCUGAGGAAACCAAAACAACAGUAAAAAGGGGAAAAAAUAAGGCAUCAAAUUAAGCGAGGAAAACCUGGGAAAUUGGUGAAGCUGGCAAGGAGCGUUGUGGUUGUUCCCAGCCGUGGUUCUCUAUGUUUCUGCUCCUCUUUCUGUUUUUCACACUGUAAGAAGAAAGGCCUAUGAUAAUUGGGUGUGAAGGAAGUAGGGGGCAAACUGAAAGGAACUGCUACUGAACUGUUCCUAAAACACGAUGAAGAAACUGAUAAGAAGAGCAACUGAUUGGAGGGUCUGUACCUUUUUUUAUUUUAUUUUUAAUUUUUUUAAAAGUUAUGCGUAAUUGUUCUUUUACAAUUAUACCCUGAUUUAAUUAAAAUGGUGUGGUUUUAAUUUUUUGUUUAAUAAAGGGCAUAUUUGGAGUUUUAGAAUGUUUCACCGUUCUCCACCUUUUGCUUUAUAUAUACUAGCCUCUCUACACGCGCUUCCGCGCAUGCGAGAGGUUUUUUUUUAAAAAAAUUUAAAUUUAUUUUAGAAUUAAAAAAGAUAAUGAAUAUUUGUGUUCCAUAAAAAUAGGAUCCAUUAUCUGAAUUUUCUUUUUUUUUUUAAUUUUUUAAUACGAAAAAUUAUGAAUUUACCAUAUUAUCCUCAUUUAAUUAAUAAUUUCAAUUCUUAAUGUUGCAUUAACCAAGGGCAUUUUCUGGUAUUUUAAAUGUUUCACCAUUCUCUGCCUUUUGCUUUAUAUAUAUAGACUAGCUUCUUUGCACGCGCUUCCGCGCAUGCGAGAGGUUUUUUUAAAAAAAAAAUUAAAAUUUAUUUUAGAAUUAAAAAAGAUAAUGGAUAUUUGUGUUCCAUAAAAAUAGGAUCCAUUAUCUGAAUUUUCUUUUAAUUCUAAUUUUUUUAAUACGAAAAAUUGUGAAUUUACCAUAUUAUCCUCAUUUAAUUAAUAAUUUCAAUUCUUAAUGUUUGCAUUAACCAAGGGCAUUUUCUAGUAUUGUGAAUGUUUUACCAUUCUCUGCCUUUUGCUUUAUAUAUAUAGAUAUAAUAGAUAAACAAAGCCCUAAAUUUAAUUUUACCCAUUUAGCUUUUUAAUUUUCAAAAAAUAUUCAAAACAGACUAAUAUGAAUUUGUAUUUAAAUAAUCAGUAGAUAAUGGCUGUUUUUUUAGUAGUGAUUAAAGACUAGUAAACAUGCCAUUAGAUCAUUGAUCAAGUUCAUUUUCACUGGAACUUUGUAUGACAACAUAAGUUUGAUCAAGAAUCUAUACUUCACGUUCAAGUAAUACUCAACAUAACUAAUGGAGAUUUUAUCAAAAAUAGUUAAAAAUUACUUAAAAUUGCAUGCUUAACCACUUAUUAUAUAAUUCAUGGGAAUGAAAAUUCAUUAUGUGGAGGAUUACUCACCAUUGGUGAUCAACAUGCACGUAGUCAGAUUCAAGAUUAUUGAGCAUAUGGUUAACAAGAAAGACAAGAUUAAUUGAGAAAUCAGUAGUCUUGUAUACUCCCUGUUGAUGUAAAGGCAUGCCGAAUAAUUUUAAAAAUUACCAUAAAAAUAAUUAAUUGUGUAUAUUUAAUAUGUACUAUAUAAUACUAGAGAUACUAAUUUAUUAUAUCAAUUUUUGGAUACCAAAUAAUGUACCAAUGUAAAAUAGAAAUCGAACUGGAAUGCAAAGAGGCAAACAUACAGACUUUGUUAACUAUGCUAACCGCUUAAUCACAUCUUCAAUUUUUCUAGAGAAUAAUCAUAUUUGGGUUUUUGGUAAACAAUUGACUAGAAAAUGCACAAAGGUGGUCAAUAAACUUGUUUAGGGCUUGAUGGGAUGAGCCACCUUCUUGAACCGCACGCCAAGCAACUCUUCCCAAGGCUUGUGCUCUCUCCCUUGCAUCCCUUCCCUUCUCUCCUUCCAUUAACUCUCUCACACCUUCACAAAUUGCCUGCCUUGAUACCUCAAUCCUUGAACCCAAAUCAUCAUGGGAUUUUCUAAUCCCAAGUCCAGCCCCAAGCCCUUCAGCAACAAGCUUAGCAUUCAAAGACUGUUCGGCAAUCAUAGGCCAAGCCAAAAUGGGCACACCUGCAGAUAUACUUUCAAUCACCGAGUUCCACCCGCAAUGACUAAAAAACCCCCCAACUGCUCGGUGUGAUAAUAUUCGUCGUUGGUCCACCCAUUCCCUUACUAUCAUUCCCUUACCUUCAAAGUAUUCAAUAUCGACGUUAAUUGCCGAGUAUCUAAUAAAAAUAUCUACAAAAUAUUGGUACUAAGAUAAAUUAUAAAAACAAUUAGCUUACCUUUUAACCUCUCUUCUAGUCCAUUGGGUGGAGACCAAGUGGUUGACCGCACCACCAAUAGAAAUGGAACCAAAGCCUCCUCCAAGCCCAAACCCACUUGAUCAAGUUGAGCAUCUGUCAAGUCUGCUUGUGUUCCAAAUGAGACGUAGAGCACAGAGCCCAGAGUGACUUGAUCAUUGAGAAAUUGGAUCAACUUGUUGGGUUGGUUCUGGCUGAUGGGUUUGUUGAUCCCUUCAAUUUUGUCAUACAAGAAAAGAGGCCCCAUGCACCAAGCCCUAGCUCCAUUUUCAUAGAAAGUUUCAAAUGAUGAAACGGUGCCGCUUUCAAGCUCCUCAAAGCUGUUCACCACAACCCCCCAGCUGUUGCAGUCAGCUUGCCCCACAUCAGACAUGAACUGGAAAAACGGGUCGUUUUGAUCAGUUGCUUGAAUGAGCUGAGCUGGUAAUUCAGAGACACUCAGAUCAAAGGGAAGCUUGAGGCCUGGCAAGUCUAUUGGGUCCAAAACUGACUUUGCUUUUGUGUGUGGCAUGUGCACACACACAGAUUUGCAUAUGGCCAUUGACAAGACACACAUGCCAUGAAAAACCAAUCUAGGCACCCCAAAAGCUUGGCAUGAAGACAGAGUCCAGCCCAAGAAGAAAUCUGAAAUGACACAGAUGGGAAGUGAUUUGGACACGCUCAUGCCUUGGAGGACUUGUUCAAAGGGUUUUUGGAGCUGUUUGGUGGCCAUGAGGAAGGGGAAGAAGAACUCCAUGGAUGGAAGUUGGGAGGUGUUUUCUGUGCCUUGAGGCAAGCCAUGAAUGAUGGGAAAUGGGAUCUCAACGAGUCCGAUGUUGGGGUGGUUUUCUGUGUCUUGGCCAAUUGAUUUUGCGUUGGCUGGAGUUGUGAUGAUGGUGACUUUGAUCUUGCGGUGGGAAAGAGCUUUGGAGAGGUCUAGUAAUGGAAGAGUGUGGCCUUGAGACAUGAAAGGGAAGAUAACAACAUGGGGAGCUUGUGGGGAUGCCAUUGUUUGAUCUGUAAUUCUCUGUAUGUGUGGAGUUGCUUGUAUAUAUAAUGUCUCUGCUUAUAAUAUGUAUAUAUUUAAAAGUAAAAAUUUAUCAUAUUCAUUGAUCAUAUUAUAUAUAACACAUUUGUAAGAUCAUAAAUAGAAAUUUCUCAAUCCAGAUCCUCUGUCUGAAAAGUUGGAAGCAAUUCACAUGUACAUUGUCGGAUCGAAUGCCCUCGAUCGAUGGAAUGGACAAGACAAAAGGGGCAGAUUUCCAAGUCAACAUAAAAUAGUAAACGAAUAACUACAACAGUAAUUAAUGCUUUGGUGAAGGGGAAAUAAAUACUAUUCUACAAUUGCUGCAUGAACCCGCGACUAUAAAACUUGUGGGGGUACCCCAAUCUAGACGUCCAAGGCAUUGGUAUGGGGUUUUUACGUAAGGGUCCACAUCAAUGACUCGUCUUUCUUUCUCAAAUUCACGUAAGAUAUGAUAACAUAAUCAGUAAAAAAAAAUGUAUAUUACGUUUAAUUUAAAAUACUCACAUUUGACAUUGAGUAAAAUCUUUUGAUAUAUCUAUAUGUUAUUUUCAUAAUUAUGUGCCUACGCAAGUUGGAAAUGUUAUAUUGUUGAAUUGUCUGAUAUAUGUUGUCUGGCUGUGUAUUUAGAUCACUAAUCUAGUUUAUUUUCACUAAAACUUCAAGUCUCAAAAUUUGUCUAAAAACAUAAGUUCAAUCGAGAAUAUAUAUACUUCUCAUUCAAGUAAUACUCAACAUAACUAUGACUGAAAUUUCACAAUAUAACAACAUAAGAUAACAUUUUUUCGUACUUAACCAUAGAUAAUUUCUUCUUCUAGAAACGCAAGCCGGCCCUUAAAAUGCAAGUAGAUCAAGUCAACUAUUGCCUCCCUGUCUAUUUUCACUGUAUACACCAAGUCAACUAUUGAAUUAUUAUUAUUUUGAACAAGCUAUUAUGUAGCUGCCUUCACCACGCUCUGUAUUUUUGUAGUCCCAAAACAGUACGUACUGACUGAAACCACUGGCACCACGUCAAACCACUGAAAAUUUAUGGCCGUUGAGAGAGGUUUCACAAAAUUUAUUUUUGAGAGUGAUUCUCUUUAUAUUAUUUCAACUUUUUAGCUUAUUCAAGUUAGUCGGGAAGUUUUAUGUAUGUUUAUUAUAUUAUUGUUAAAAUAGCUCUCUUUAUAGUUUUUGUAUUGUUAUUUACAUUGAUCUAAUAAAAUUCUACCCCUUUCUUAUAAAAAAUAAUAAUUCAUGGGAAUGCAAAUUAAUCAGUUAAUUAAUUAUUUAAUCUAUUCACUGUGUGGUGGUGAUCAACAAGCAGCAUGUAGUCAGAUUAAAAGAUAAUAAUGAGCAUAUGGUUAAAAGAAAGACACGAUUAAUGGAGAAAUUAGUAUCCCUAUAUACUUUGUUGCUGUAGCUUGUAUGGGGCAUGCCAAAUAAUUUAAGGAAAAAGAAAGACUAUUAAAAAAAAAUUACGGUUCUAUUUAUUGUGUACAUAACACUAGACACACUAAUUUAUUAUUAACUGACGUGUCAGUGCACAAAGAAAAAGCAAACUCAAACUCAAAAUGACAAAUACACUAUAUUUUAGCUAAUUGGCAUAAUCCACGUCUUCUGUCUCGCUAAUAUUACCACAUUAUAGACAAAUACAAGAAUCAAUAGUUGAUUUCAGUGUAUUAACUGUUGAAUUAUAUAAUUUGACAUGAAUUAACAAUUGAAAAUUCAUCCACGUAUGCAUACAUGAAGGAUGAAAAAAAUUCCACUUUACUAUUGUGUGAUAGACUUCAUGGUUAUUUUAUUAGAACCGUGCGCCGCCUAACUGCGUGCAACACCGCACGUUCAGUAAACGCCUAUUCGCCUUUUAUAGUUGACCAAAAAAAGAUAUAUAAUAUGAAAAUAAUACAAAUUAUGUUGAAAAUGGGUUAAUAUCUGAUUUGAGAAACAUAUCCUUGUUUGAAAAUUCUAAAAUAAAUAAAAAAACAUAGGAGAUAACCAACACUCUUGUCGUUCAGCUGAAGCUGAAACACUUGGACAAAAAAUGUCGUAACAUGGUCACACGAUGCCAAGAACAAUUUGAGGAGGUCACGUGUGACUUGGUCGUAUUUAAUUUUAUGCUUUUAUUUUAUUUUUUAAUGAGCCCAAAAUUUCAGAAAUUCAAGCUUUCACAUGAAUAUAUAUGCCUUCAUAUAGUCACUGUCUGCGGAUAUAGACACAAAUUUACUACAAUCAUGCAAGCAAAACCUAUCAAUCAAUUUCUCAAUGAAAAUUUUAUAUAAAUAUAUAUGAAUCACUUUCAUUUACUUUUAAGUUAAACUAAGGUCAUUUGAAAAAUAACCCCAAAGAGUUUGAGGUCAAUUUACAACAUGUCACCUCUCUAAACCCACACUAGUAAAAAAAACCCCUUGCGCGACCAAAUUUUACGCGACGAAAAACUAUUCGUCGCUCAAAGUCACUUUGCGCGACGAAAGUCAAAACUUCGUCGCUCAAAGUCUUGCGCGACCAAAUUUUGCGCGACGAAAAAUAAUUCGUCGCGCAAAGUCACUUCGCGCGAUAAACUUUUGCGCGACGACAAUACAUCGUCGCUCAAAGUCUUGCGCGACCAAAUUUGCGCGAUGAAAAAACAUUCGUCGCGCAAAGUAACUUUGCGCGACAACAAUACAUCGUCGCUCAAAGUGACUUUGCGCGACGAAACAAUAAACUUCGUCGCGCAAAGUCCUUAUAAAAAUAAAAAAUAUUUUUUUUUAAAUCUUUGCAUGACGUAAUCCAAACAUUUCGUCGCCUAAACUAAUUUAUUUUUGUUUUUUAUUUUGUAUGCAUAACACUUAAGAAAUUAAACAGUAUAUAUAUUUAUUAAGUAGCUUUAAAUUUAUUAUUUUAGAUCGGAUCGGAUUUUUGUUAGAAAAAUAUAUUAUUGUUGUUCAUAUUGGGUUUUUGUUAGAAAAUAUAUAUUUUAAAUUGAUAAUCGAGUUCAUUGUAUUCAUAUAGGGUCAAGGAGUGUAGCUGUAAAAAAUCAUCAAAAUCGGAGUUAAAAUAACCAUUAAAUCGUGAUUUUUCAUUAUAACCGUCGAAAAGUUUUGUCUCAUUACUUGAUCUCUGAAUGUUUAUUUUUUUCGAUUUUUGGCGUAUAUGAUCUCGAAGUAUAAACAAACAAGUUUGACGGUUGGAUCGUUGAAACUAGUUUUGGUGAAUGCAUAUGCCAUCAAAAUAAUAUAUUCACUAACAAUUAAGAGUUUAUUUAUACGUUCGUUAAAUAUAACAUAAGAUUUUGUGGUAUCCACUAGUGUAAAUAUUUUAUAUUGAAGAUCAAAUUCAGUCAUUGUAUUCAUAUAGGGUCAAGGAGUGUAGCUGUAAAAAAUCAUCCAAAUCGGAGUUAAAAUAACCAUUAAAUCAUGAUUUUUCAUUUAUAACCGUAAAAUUUUUUUGUCCCGUUACUUUAUCGCUGAAUGUUUAUUUUUUUCGAUUUUUGGCGUAUAUGAUCUCGAAGUAUAAACAAACAAAUUUGACGGUUGGAUCGUUGAAACUAGUUUCGUAGAAUGUGUAUGCCAUCAAAAUAAUAUAUUCACUAACAAUUAAGAGUUUUUUUUAUACUUUCGUUAAAUAUAACAUAAGAUUUUGUGGUAUCCACUACUGUAAAUAUUUUAAAUUGAAGAUCAAAUUCAGUCAUUGUAUUCAUAUAUGGUCAAGGAAUGUAGCUGUAAAAAAAAUCAUCAAAAUCGGAGUUAAAAUAACCGUUAAAUCGUAAUUUUUUUAUUUAUAACCAUCGAAAAGUUUUGUCCCGUUACUAGAUCUCUGAAUGUUUGUUUUUUGCGAUUUUUGGGGUAUACGAUCUUGAAGUAUAUACAAACAAGUCUGAUGGUUGGAUCGUUGAAUGGUGUGUGUAUAUAUAUUUAUUUAUUAAGUAGCUUUAAAUUUAUUUAUUUUGUACGUAUAACACUUAAGAAAUUGAAUAGUAUAUAUAUUUAUUAAGCAGCUUUAACCUUAUUUAUAUUUUAAAUUGUAAAAUAAAAUAUUUUUAUUUUUAUUAUUCAUAACAAUUAUUUUUAUAAAUAUUGUGCUACGAACCAAUUUUUCGUCUCUCAAAAGUUUGCGCGACCAACAGUUUGUCGCGCAAAACUCUAAAAAUUUGGACGGGUACAAAAAAUGUGACGAGGGAUUUUUUUUAUAAAAAAAAAAAUUUAGACUUUGUGCGACCAAUAUUUUUUGUCGCUCAAAACUUUGCGCGACCAAUAUAUAUUUUUCGUCUCGCAAAAAUUUGGUCGGGUACCAAAAAUGGAUGCGGGAAUUUUUUUAGACUUUGCGCGACCAAUAUGUAUUUUUUGUCGGGUACCAAAAAUGGGACGCGGGGAUUUGUAUUUUUUUAAAAUAAUUUUUUUUGGACUUUGCGCGACCAAUAUUCCUAUAUUCGUCGUGCAAAAAUUUUUUUUUUAGACUUUACGCGACCAAUAUGUAUUUUUCGUCACACAAAAAUUUAAAAAUUUUGGCGGGUACCAAAAAUGGGACGCGGGGAUUUUUAUUUUUUUAAAAUAAUUUUUUUGGACUUUGCGCGACCAAUAUUCCUAUAUUCGUCGCGCAAAUUUUUUUUUUUAGACUUUACGCGACCAAUAUGUAUUUUUCGUCGCGCAAAAAUUUAAAAAUUUUGGCGGGUACCAAAAAUGGGACCCGGGGAUUUAUAUUUUUUAAAAAUAAUUUUGUUGGACUUUGCGCGACCAAUAUUCCUAUAUUCGUCGCGCAAAUUUUUUUUUUUAGACUUUACGCGACCAAUAUGUAUUUUUCGUCGCGACCAAAAUGUAUUUGGUCGCGCAAACCUUUGCGUGACCAAUGUAUUUCGUCGCUCAAACCUUUGCGCGACCAAUGUGUUUCGUCGAGCACAACUUUGCAUUACCAAUAUUUUUCGUCGCGCAAAGUCACUUUGCGCGACCAAUAUUUUUUCGUCGCGCAAAGUCACUUUGAGCGACCAAUAUUUUUUCGUCGCGCAAAGUCGCUUUGCGUGACCAAUGAAAAAACUUCGUCACGCAAAGUCUUUCUUCACGAUCUUUGCGCGACAAAUUUUGCGCGACGAAAUUUCUGUCGCACUGAAAUUUGUGCGACUACAAUGUAUUUUGCGCGACGAAAUUCUCUUCGUCGCGCAAAGUGUAAAAUGUAGUAGUGCCACCUAAGUAGUGAUAAUCUUGCCCACUUGAUUUGUCAAUUCACAUUUUUCUUAUCAAACGAUACUAAGAGAAGGAGAAUUUGACCUAAAGACUUAUGGUGUGUUUAUUAAUUAAGAAUUGAAUUCCAACUAUGGAGGAUUCAUAUAUUUACUUCACAUCAAUGAAUUAAAAAGUAACUGGGGCCCACACAAAAUUAGGAAUUAAAUUCUUGAUUUUGGAAGAAUUCAAUUCUUGGGUGGGUGGUGGUAUUCUAAUUUUUGGAGAACUGACCCAUUAAGAAUUCAAUUUUUUUACCUAUUAUAUCCUUAUGCAAUUUUAAAAAUUCCAAAUUUGUCAUCUACUUUAAUCCAACAACGAGGAUAUUUUAGUAAUUAGAACCACUCCUACCCCUCAAUUCCAUAUGGUUUAGUAAACAACUUCAAUAAGAAUCUAGAAUCUAACUCUCCUCAAUUCAUAUAACUCAACUUCUCAUAAUUCAAUUACGAAUUAGUAAAUAUGUCAUUAAAAUAUAAGAGUAAAUGUUCAUAAUCACUCAAAAUACAAAACUUGAUGAUGACUCUUAUAUCUAAGUCAAAUUAGGAAAAACUUUCACGUUGCUACUCAACUUCACAAACAAUUUAUUUUCGUAUAUCAUGUUUGUCAUAUUUGUCUCAUAUCUUUUUUAGUGUGUGAGAAAAAUUCUCUUUCAAUGUAGAUUAAACUACUACUUAUACUCAAAAAAUAAUAAUGGAAAAGUGAGGACCGAUAGUAUGUGAUUAUAUACAUGAAAAUUGGUCAAAAUUACAACAAAAUUUAUGGCUCUUGGAUGCUUCCGCGGGUUAAAUAGUCCCAACACUAUUUGAUUGCGUAAUCCUAUUUAAUGAAGCAGUUAGAUAAGACAACUCAAGCCCUAUACCCACAAAGUCCACUAUCAAAGCCAAUUGAUUCAUCACAUCAUCUAUCAAAUAAUGCCGACUAACAUGCAAAUUCCCCCUGGUCCCUCCCAGUUCACUCCAACCAAAAUGAAUAUUUUAGAUAAAUGGUCAAGAACAGUCGAAAUAUCGAUGAGUGAGUAGACAACUCUCAGUCGUUGAUGCAUUAUGAGGCGAGUUCAAACACGACUCUUUACUUUUAUGUGGCUAAGUGGUGAUUGGGUCAAAUUGACUGAGCCUAGUGGUUAGACUAUUGGGUCGUGAGACAAAUGAACUUGGGUUUGAUUUGUGAGAUAGUUAUUGGACUAGAGAUGGGUCCGUGGUUUCGGCCCAUUAUCGGUGGAACUCAGUGUUUGGUGCAUCUAGCAUAAUUUGAUCAACGCACCCAAUAUCUAUAUUUUUCUGAGAAAGUUGAGGAUUUGGUUUUAAAUUUCGAUUGGUUCAAUGAUCCUAGAAGUUCAUUAGAAUUUUAACUAAUUUAUAACUACUUUUUGGGAAUAUCCACCUAAUUAAGCCGGAUUAGGAUGUUAAGAUUUUAAUGCAACCUUGCGCAUUAAACACCACGUGACAUGAACAAUAGCCUAGUAAGAAGAGAGAGUCAAAGUCCAACAAUGAACUGCAUAGCGGCCAUUACGCAUCUCUCAUCUGCUGCCAUGCUUUUCUUUCUCCUUCCCAAAUGAAACUAGUUCUUCGUCAUUAACAAAUUUACUUAUUUGCUCUCUAUUCUUUGCUUGGUGGAGUCUCCAUGGAUAAUUCCAUGUGCCGUUGAUGAUCUUUUGUAAGUAUCUCUAAUGCUCUAGGUAAAGUUUAUAGCUUUCAGAUAAUUCUACGUGCCUUCACAUUGGAUAGUCAAUUAUGAUUCUGGAAUAUUAGGGCUUUCGUAGCUUUCAGAUAACCAAAAACCCUUAUCGCUUUUAACUAUUUCUAGCUCAUAAAAACGUCUAGUAGUGCUUAAAUAAAACCCUAAUGAAACAAUUCAUGCUCAUUGAGAUGAAACGUUUGUGAGCAAAAAUGCUUCAUAUGAAAGCAAUCCCAAACGAACCCUAAGUUUUGUUCCUUCGUAUGAUUGUAUUUGUACAAUAUGAAUGAUUUUAUGAUGUCCUAGGUUUCUUAUAUCGUGUUUAGGUAACAGAGGAAGAACUAAAAGAGAGGGGGUAUAAAAUAUAAACAUGGUAUCUGAAGGCACACCAUAUGCACCAAAGAACAUCCUCAUAACAGGUGCAGCAGGGUUCAUAGGCAGCCAUGUGACCAAUCGGCUGAUCAAAAACUAUCCCAGCUACAAAAUCGUAGCCCUUGAUAAGCUAGACUAUUGCUCUAGCUUCAAGAACCUCAGGCCCUCUAGAGCCUCUCCCAAUUUCAAGUUUGUCAAAGGUGACAUUGCCUGCGCUGACCUGGUCAACCAUCUCUUGAUUGCUGAUGAAAUUGACACCAUAAUGCACUUUGCUGCACAAACCCAUGUAGACAAUUCAUUUGGAAACUCAUUUGAAUUCACAAACAACAAUGUCUAUGGAACCCAUGUUCUUCUUGAAGCCUGUAAGGUCACACAGCAGAUCAAAAGAUUCAUCCAUGUGAGCACAGAUGAGGUUUAUGGAGAAACUGAUAUGGAAACUGAUAUUGGAAACCCUGAGGCAUCUCAGCUUCUGCCCACAAACCCUUACUCUGCUACAAAAGCAGGGGCUGAAAUGUUGGUUAUGGCUUACCACAGAUCUUAUGGCCUGCCAACAAUCACAACCAGAAGCAACAAUGUUUAUGGGCCCCACCAGUAUCCAGAAAAGCUUAUCCCAAAAUUCAGUCUUCUUGCAAUGAAAGGUGAGAAAUUGCCUAUCCAUGGAAAUGGAUCAAAUGUUAGAAGCUAUCUGUAUUGUGAUGAUGUUGCUGAGGCAUUUGAUGUUAUACUUCAUAAGGGGGUGAUUGGGCAUGUGUACAAUAUUGGUACCAAAAAAGAGAGGUCUGUUAUAAAUGUGGCAGAGGAUGUUUGCAAGAUGUUUGGUUUGAACCCAAAGGAAGCUAUUAGCUUUGUUCAUGACAGGCCUUUCAAUGACCAUAGGUACUUCUUGGAUGAUCAAAAGCUUAAGAAGCUUGGGUGGGAGGUGAAGACUAGUUGGGAGGAAGGGCUAAAGCUGACAACACAGUGGUACACCAAGAACCCUACUUGGUGGGGUGAUGUGUCUGCUGCACUUCACCCACACCCAAGUUUCUCUGUGAUUAGUCGAUCCAACGAUGAUGCGUGGUUCUUCGAAUACGGGUACACAAGGCUGUCAAGAACUUGCAGUGAGAACAGCAACAGCCCUGCAUUGAAAUUCUUGAUAUAUGGGAGGACUGGUUGGAUAGGAGGGUUGUUGGGGAAGCUUUGUAAAGAUGAAGGAAUUGAAUUUGAGUAUGGGAAAGGAAGACUUGAGGAUAGGAAGUCUCUGCUGGAGGACAUAACAAGAGCACAACCAACCCAUGUGUUCAAUGCAGCUGGAAUUACAGGCCGCCCUAACGUUGAUUGGUGUGAAUCUCACAAGACUCAAACAAUCAGGACAAAUGUAGUCGGUACUCUAAAUUUGGCCGAUGUUUGCAAGGAUCAAGGUCUCUUGAUGAUGAAUUUUGCAACUGGCUGCAUAUUUGAGUAUGACAAGGAGCAUCCUCUAGGAUCAGGUAUUGGAUUCAAGGAGGAGGACAAGGCUAAUUUCACCGGCUCCUUCUAUUCGAAGACCAAAGCCAUGGUAACAAAUUUCAAACUUGUUUACAAUUUGUUUUUUAUUUCAAAACCAUAGUCUAUAUAUGCUGCAUUCAAGCAUGGAGAGAGGGUGUAAUUCUGUCAUGUCACCACCAAUGUCCAAGCUUUGUUCUAAAAUCAUGUACAUUUUUUUGUUAAGGAUAUACUUAAUAUCACAAAGAAAAUGGUUGAAAUUUGCAGGUGGAGGAACUCUUAAAGGAAUAUGACAAUGUGUGCACCCUCAGAGUAAGAAUGCCAAUAUCAUCAGACCUCAGCAACCCAAGAAAUUUCAUCACGAAAAUCGCGCGUUACGACAAGGUUGUGAACAUACCCAACAGCAUGACAGUUUUAGAUGAGCUCCUACCAAUCUCCAUUGACAUGGCUAGGAGGGACUGCAGAGGAAUAUGGAACUUCACCAACCCAGGAGUCAUAAGCCACAAUGAGAUCCUAGAGAUGUACAGGGAUUAUAUUGACCCAACGUUCAAGUGGCAAAAUUUUGGCCUAGAAGAACAGGCCAAGGUGAUUGUAGCACCAAGGAGUAACAAUGAUUUGGAUGCUUCAAAGCUGAAGACGGAGUUUCCUGAAUUGUUGUCAAUCAAAGAUUCAAUCAUAAAAUAUGUCUUUAAGCCCAACAAGAAGGCUUGAAAGUCAUGGUUGUAUCUACACCUUUUAAGCUGCAGAAUCAAAUUUUUACUGUUAAUUUCAUUGUUUUCUUUUUUCUUUCUCUCUCAUAUUCAUAUUGUUUUGUCCAUUUACUUCAAUAUAAAAAACAGACGGAUGUUAUUCAUCAGAGAAAAAAAAAGCGCAAGAUUUUGAGAAUCAUACUUUAUAGAUGAGAAACCCAAACUUGCUUUGGAGUCUAAGAGCAAACAAGCCUGGUCACAUCUUCAUUGAAGAACAUGCCAAUCUGACAUCACUUUGGUUUUCUUUGAGUGGCUGGGUUAUAAAUUUAAAAUAUGGUAGCCCACUCCUUUCUUCCUUUUUAUAGUUUGACUUAGUAUACUCCUUAAGGAUUGCAACUCAUAAAAGGGUUAGGAAUUUACUUUAAUGUGUACUUUCUAUUAGUACAAUUUGGUUGUCAUUUCAAUUCCAACUGUGAUUCAUUUUAAAAUUUGUGAAAUUCUUGAAUAACGUGUUGUAAAACUUACAUAAAACGAGUGUAUACACUCUUUUGAAUGAAUGAAAACUUGCAUGUGUAAAUAAAUCUUUAUUUCGAUUAUAUAAAAAGACUAAUAAUCUCAAAAAAAAAAAAAAAAAAAAAACAUGGAUCAUGAUGAUUGAGUCAAUUUUCAAAUACAAUUUAUAUGAACUCAUGAAACAUGAGAUAUUGACAUCUGCUUUCCAAUUGACAAGUGGUUGGCCUUCCAUAAUCUUUCAAAAUGUGUGAGUGGCAUAUGCAUUCUAUGGUUAAUAAAAUAAUCCAUAUUGGCUUCUUUAUAUAUAGCACCUUGUGAAACCAUUACACAAAAGAAAAGUAGUUUGUUCUGUUGUAGUGUUGAAGCAUGAGGUGAGAUAUUGGAUGGUGACAGAAGAAGAGAACAAAAUAUGCCAAUUACCAAUACCAACCAUACAUAAUACAUUAUGUAAUGUGACAAAAGCUAGCUGACUUCUUCAGAGGCUGUGAAUGGCUCAAGUCACUUUUCGAGGUGUUUGCUUCUGCACAACUUUUCUGCACUGCACAUGGAAUAAAAAAUUGAAGGGCUGGUGUUCACUCUGGAUGACCUCAUUUCACCACAUUCAAUCUUCAAUCAACAUAUCCAUAUAUAUACUUUUCUGAAAUCAAAUCCCAUAGUGAGCAUUAGCCUUUUUCUCCCUAAGUGAACUAGGACACAAACUUUUGGUGCAUAGCUAAUCACAUUUUUCAUUUAUUUUUAAGAAUAGAGAGGCUAACUACAACAUUAAUUUCAUUACAAAUUUAGACAAAACUGAAACGGGACAAUUUUCUAAUAUUUCAAAUAAAGAUGUAUGUGUAUUCUGAAAGAUAUACGAUAUAAUUUUCUUUUGUAGGUAGAAAAUAGAGAUUCAAAUUUAAAACAACUUUCAAUUUCGGAGUAUGAAUUUUUAUAUUACUGCUUUUUUGCAUAGGUUUAUCAUAUGAAAGCAAUCAAUUUAUACUAGUAAAUUUGUAAUUUUACAAUAUUUCACUUUCUCUUGUGAAAGGCAUGCUUAAUCGAUGAUAAAUAUACGAUUGAUUGACGUUUUUGUUUGGAUUGAUAUUAAUUAAAGAGUUGAGAUAAGAAGGAAUAUACCCUUCUUCUUUUUACCUUUUUAAAUUUCUGAAAGUCCUAAAGCAUGAUGUUUUUAUUUAUAAAUUGAAUAAAAAAACAAAAAACAAAGUGAAGUGGCGCGAUUCGCAUGAUCAUAUUGUCCAAUGUGUGUUUGUUUCUUGCCAGUCAACUAUCUUCAGAUUGGUCGUGUGUCAACUUCAACCAAACUACCAAAUCACAACAAUUAAUACAAGUUUUCAGAAAAUGCUACCCAAAAAAAGUGUUGCACCGAUUAACCCCAUACGAACUAAGACGUGGGUUCGGAAAGGCCCAAGAUGGGACUGUGAUUUGUUACUUCUUCUUUUGUGUACGCAACGUAAGUGUCACUAAAUUACUGCACAAAGGACGAAGCAUACAAAUGAACCAGUGGCAAUAUCGUAAUUCAGAGAAACAAUUUGGCGGGUUUCAAAAAAUCCCACGUUAAAAACACGCUCUCAAUGACUGUCACACACUCACUCAAAAGUUUGCAAGCAGCCACCAAAAAUCCAAAUCACCUCUCAACCGUCUUCCUCUGUCUUCUUCUUCUUCUUCUUCUUCUUCUUCCGCCAACAAUCGCCGGAAAAAUUUCGCAGAGAUGGAAUAUUCCGCCGAUGAAUUCGACGUCAUCGUGGUCGGAGCCGGCAUCAUGGGCAGCUCCACCGCCUACCAGACAGCCAAGCGUGGCCAGAAGACCCUCCUCCUCGAGCAAUUCGACUUCCUCCACCACCGCGGCUCCUCCCAUGGCGAGUCCCGGACCAUCCGCGCCACCUACCCGGAAGACUACUACACGCCAUUGGUUCUCCAGUCCUACAAGCUCUGGCAGCAAGCCGAGUCCGAGAUCGGCUACAAUGUCUACUUCAAAGCUCACCAAUUGGACAUGGCCCCGGCAAACGAUAAGGUUCUGCAUGCCGUUGUUGAGAGCUGUCGUAAAAAUUUGGUCCCCUUUCGGUUCAUGAACCGGGACCAGCUGGAUCGGGAGUUCUCGGGUCGGAUUCGGAUUCCGGAGGAUUGGGUGGCCGUGGCGACGGAGCAUGGUGGGGUUAUUAAACCCACCAAGGCUGUGUCUAUGUUUCAAACUCUUGCUCUGCAGAACGGUGCCGUUUUGAGGGACAAUAUGGGGGUGAAGGGUGUGGAGAGAGAUGGGGUGAGAGGAGGGGUUUGGGUGUGCACAGAAAAUGGAGAGAGGUUUUGGGGGAAGAAGUGUGUGGUGACCGUUGGGGCUUGGACUACGAAGUUAGUUAAAACGGUUGCUGGGAUUGAGCUGCCUAUAAAGCCAUUGGAGACCACUGUUUGUUAUUGGAGGAUUAAGGAGGGGCAUGAAGGUGGUUUUGCCAUUGGAGGUGACUUUCCAACCUUUGCUAGCUAUGGGGAUACCUACAUUUAUGGGACACCCUCUUUGGAGUACCCCGGUUUGAUCAAGGUUGCCGUGCAUGGCGGGUACCCAUGUGACCCGGAUAAGAGGCCGUGGGGACCCGGGAACCCGCUGGCUCCGUUGAAGGAGUGGAUUGAGGGGAGGUUCUCCGGUGUGGUUGACUCCGGUGGGCCUGUGGCCACUCAGCUGUGUAUGUACUCCAUGACCCCGGAUGAGGACUUUGUGAUUGAUUUCUUGGGUGGGGAGUUUGGGAAGGAUGUGGUGGUGGGUGGCGGGUUUUCGGGUCACGGGUUCAAGCUGUCUCCGGUGGUGGGGAGGAUAUUGGCUGACCUCGCACUUAGUGGGGAGGCUCAAGGUGUGGAGCUAAAGCACUUUAGAAUAGCAAGGUUUCAAGAGAAUCCUAAAGGCAAUGUUAAAGACUUCCUAUAGAUCAUCGGUGCUAAUUUGAAGCAGAAUUGGGUAGCUUCCAUCGGUGGCCAAUAAUUUGAAGCACUUUAGGAUAGCAAACUGUAUGUGGUGGUUAUGUGUGAGUGACUUUGUAUGUGUGUGGUGGACAAAUUGACACAAUAAACACACUGCUUCAUUUGGUGUUCAAUGAUCCUCGAAAUGUUGCAUCAAUUUUACAUUGUAGGGAAAAAAAUUGUUUCUUUUUUUCCAAAUUUCGUUUUAAAAAAGUGCAACCAACAUCUAGGAAUUUGAGAUGUACAUAAUUCUAUGAAAAUAAAAGCUAAUUUGAAACACAAGGAGCUUAUAAUUCAAGUAGUUAAGAGCAAUUACCCUGAAUUUGAAAUCCAAAAUUUUGUAUUCGAAUUCUCAUUUCCUCAUAUCCCUUGGAAUAAGAAAUAUAUAAUAUAAAAAAGCCCAAUUUGAACCAAUUUGAAAAAAAAAUAGAUAUUAAUUGAUGACCAAAAAAUAAUCAAUCAAUCUAACCACAUCUAGGAAGGAGAGAAAAUAGCUGAUUAAGCUUCCAACUUAAUAGCCCAAUAAAAGCAUAAUCAUAGUUGGGACUAGGAGCCCAUCUAUGGCAUCCCAACCUACUAGUCUUCUCAGAAUCCGUAUCUAUCGCAAUUGCAACUUGGUCACUAUUGCCUUUGCGCAAACUGCGGACUUGAGGUGCAAUGGAGGUCCCAGAUACCGCCCAGUUGUUUUUCUAUUAAAAAAAAUCCUCAAAUUUAAAGUCAUUAAUGACAUUACAAUACUCUGACAAAGGCCUAGAAAUGCAAGUUAAAAAACAAAUAAACAUAUAACAUCUCACCGCAGGUUCAACCUCCAUAAUUUCAGAGGUCAUACUAGUUCCUCUGCCAGAAUCUCCAACACCUCGAUAAGAUAUUCAUAUCAAACCAUGUUAAUAACUCAUGGAUCUCAUCUGAACUUCUCUUGUUGCUGGUUUGAGAUGCAACAAGAACAUCAUUGGUACACCUAGUGACCUCUUGCCUUAAGAAAGAUAUCUCAGCAUCCCGAUCUUGAAAUUGUGAUUGGAGCUUUUCCACCUCGGCAAGGAGGUUUGCAGAUAGAUGAUGUUGCUCAUCAAACUUACUCACAGUGACGGAAAGCUUUUUCAUAACCUUCCCGUGAGAAGCUUCAAGGUUCUCAAGAUCUAGGUUCUUUUGUUCCACAACCUUUUCCAAUUCCUUAAUCUUGAAAGUGAGACCUUGCAUUUGCACCUCCUCCUAAUUUGUUACGAUAUCAAAUCUCAAUUAUAGGAGUAGACUGCUGUAGACCUUUGACUGAUUCUGUUUCCUUUUCUAGUCCAGCAAUCCCUGUAGUUUAGGCUGUAGUUAUUACUUCUUUCCAUAUAUGUUUCUGUAUAAUUUGCUAUAUAUCUUUGUAAUUGUUAUGAUUGAAUACACAAGCAAUAUACAUCAGAUUAUCACUUUUCACAUGGUAUUAGAGCGAUAGGCUCUCUGACCUUCAUCACGAUUUGAUUUUUUCUUAGCCUUAUGGUCUUUUUUUUAUAUUUUGUUUGAGAGUUCUCAGUAUCUCAAAUUCUACUCUUUAUCAUGGAUAAGUUUUGUUCCACCUUUGCCAAUCACGUGGAAUCAAACAGUACAGGUCUGGCAAGUUCUUAUUUUUUUGAUUUUCAAAAUUCAGUUUCUUCCAAUAAUUUUUCACAGGUUUGGAUUCUUGAUAGUGGUGCAACGGAUCACAUCACAUCUCGACCUUCAAUUUUUUCUCAAUUAUCGUUUUCAUCAACUCCUUCAUCUGUUCAAUUACUAUUUCCCUCUUUUCAACCGGGGUAGCCGACGGAAUGAACCUUUGGUCCUUCUUCUUUUGAGUGCCGGGCGUGCCACCACCGAGCCCCGAAUUUGAACUUGAAUGGAAUGUGAGUAGAUGAAUAUGUUGCGUCCGAGAUUUGACUUUAAUCAAACAAUUGUUCGGCCGAACAAGGAACCUUCUCACGGCCUAGGUUCUUUCACUACCUCAGGGUCAAGACUUUAUGUGAGCGACCAAAUGAUGUGGAGUGGAUGAAGAUGAAGAUUAAAGGUGAAACGUAAUGAAACGAAGAACAAGUGCGUAAAGUAAAGGUGCUUAAACUUAAAUAUAAUUUAAAGACAAAUACGUAAAGUAAAGUGCGAAAGAUAAAUAACGUAAAGACAAGAAUUAAAGUCCAAUAAAAUGAAUUAAAGCGAUAAAUAAAGCAAAAACGAAAUGAAAGCGAUAAGAACGAUAAAGUAAAAUGAACUUGAAAUUAAACUUAAUUGAAGUGCGAUAACAAUGAAAAGUAAAGCAAUUGAAAUAAACUUGAAUUUAAAUGACAAGAAAAUAUAAAUUGAACGAAAAUUUAAACUUACACUAAGAAAAGGAAGAACUCACUACACUAGGUGCAUGAAAAGUAAAAUUCUAAGUCUAAGAAAAGAAAAGUGCGAGACGAAAAAUAAGUUUGUCUGUCUGAUGUUGUGUGUCUAAUGUCUUCGUCGAGCAUGGUUUAUAUAGGGCACUCGUUAGCUCAUGGGCUGGCCAUUGAAUGGCCAAAGGUUAACUCUUUUAAAACUUCUUUCCUUCCAAGACCUCCUUAAAUCUGUAGGAUUGCAUUGAUUGAAAUAUUCUGACAUGCUUGAUUCCUCCUUGCUUUGGAACACUCAGAGUUAACUCUUUUAAAAAUCUCUUAAUUUCUUUCCUUCUGAGGCCUCUGUCAUGUACACAUAAUCCUCCGAAAAUCUGAGCGUAGAUAGGUAGCUUAAACUUGAGCCUUGUAUUGCCACCCAUAUAAUAUAUAUUAAACUUCAUAUUAUUAUAUAUAAGCACUAUUAUCUCAUAUAUACAUAUAUAUUAAUAUAUAUUAUUAUAUAAUUGUUAUAAAAUAACCUGGGAUAUGUGCGAAUUUUGAGCUGCACGUAAAGUAGAUGAGACACAGUAUUUAACGAGGUUCGGCUACGCCUACGUCCUCGGAGAGCAGCAACAGUAACCUUUCACUAUAUAAUAAUAUGACUACAAUAGUGUUUACAAUAUGUGUGACUCACUGAAUUUUCUCUCUGCUUACUUACCCUCUUCUUUCCUCUUCUCUCUCUUUCCUCCUUUCCUUUUUUUUUUCUUCCGUUUCCUUUUUCCUCUUGGUCUUAUUUAUAGGCUGCUAGGAAGGAUGUGAGUGUACAGUAUUUUGCUUGUGAGUGUACAGUAUUUUGCUUAAUUUCUUUGUGGGCCCCAUAAAUGUGGGCUCCACAUGUUUAUUCUUUACAACACUCCCCCUUGGAGACCACAUGUCCCUAGUUGGUUGCCUCAUUAAAACCUUGCUUGGAAAAACCCAGUGGGAAAAAACCUAAGCGAAGGAAAAAGAGUACAACGUGCAUAUGUCCUAGGUUAGAGGACUUUUGAAUGCUCCCCCUGAUUUUGCAUGCUCCAACUUGAUUGCUUGCAGAGUUGUCGUAAUCCGAUGCCAUGCACUAACUUUUGGAAUGUACAUUUCGGCAAUGAUUUAGUGAAGAGAUCUGCCAGGUUAUCACUUGAACGGAUUUGUCUGACUUUGAUUUCUUGACUCUUCUGGAGCUCAUGUGUAUAGAAAAACUUUGGUGAUAUGUGCUUGGUUCUGUCACCCUUGAUAUAUCCUCCUGUGAUCUGAGCAAUACAAGCUGCAUUGUCCUCAUUCAGAAUUGUUGGAGUGUCUGUUGUUGAGGGUAGGGCACAUGUGCUUCGGAUGUGAUGGAUUACCGACCUUAACCAAACGCAUUCACGACUGGCUUCAUGGAGGGCAAGUAUUUCUGAGUGAUUAGAAGAUGUGGCCACUAAUGUUUGUUUUGUUGAGCGCCAUGAGAUCGCAGUUCCUCCACAUGUAAAUACAUACCCAGUCUGUGAUCGUCCUUGAUGUGGAUCAGAGAGAUAUCCUGCAUCAGCAUAACCAAUAAUACUCUGGGCAUUGGUCGAUUCACUGGAAUAGAAUAACCACAUGUCUGUUGUCCCACGAAGGUAUCGUAGAACAUGUUUGAUGCCGGUCCAGUGUCGCCUUGUUGGAGCAGAACUGUACCUUGCUAACAGAUUUACUGAGAAUGAUAUGUCUGGUCUGGUACAUUGUGCUAGGUACAAUAAAGCACCUAUUGCACUAAGAUAUGGUACUUCUGGACCAAGGACCAUUUCAUCAUUCUCUUUUGGACGAUAUGGGUCUUUCUUAGUGUCAAGCGAUCGAACGACCAUUGGAGUGCUAAGUGGAUGGGCUUUAUCCAUGCCAAACCGUUCCAAUACUUUCUCAGUAUAAGUUGAUUGAUGCACCAAAAUUCCAUUAGCACUGUGCUCAAUCUGCAAGCCAAGACAAUAUUUUGUCUUUCCAAGGUCCUUCAUCUCAAACUCACGUUUGAGAUAAUCAACAGUCUUUUGAAGCUCUUCAGAAGUUCCAAUUAGAUUCAUGUCGUCGACAUAUACUGCCACUAUCGCAAAUCCAGACUCUGAUUUCUUAAUAAACACACAUGGGCAAAUAGGAUCAUUUGUGUAUCCUUCCUUCAGUAAAUACUUACUGAGACGAUUGUACCACAUUCGUCCAGAUUGUUUUAGCCCAUAUAAUGAUUUUCUCAAUUUAAUUGAGAACAUGUCCCGUGGUUUGUUUCUGGCUGCUUCAGGCAUCCUGAAUCCUUCUGGAACUUUCAUGUAUAUAUCUGUAUCCAAUUCUCCAUACAAAUAUGCGGUAAUGACAUCCAUGAGUCUCAUUUCAAGUUUUUCUGAAACCGCCAAACUUAUUAGGUAACGGAAUGUAAUUGUGUCCAUUACUGGAGAGUACGUUUCCACAUAAUCAAUUCCAGGCCUUUGUGAAAAACCUUGCGCAACGAGUCGCGCUUUAUACCUUGAGAUCUCAUUUUUCUCAUUGCGCUUUCUUGUAAAUACCCACUUGUAACCUACAGGGUUCACAUUGGGUGGAGUUGGACUAAUAUGUCCAAAAACACUCAUUUUUUCCAAAGAAUUUAAUUCUGCCUGGAUUGCAUCUUUCCACUUGGGCCAAUCUUGCCUCUGUGUACAUUCAUGAAUAGAGCACGGCUCAAUAUCAUCAUCUUUUAUGAUCUCAGCAGCCACUGAGAAUGCAAAUAUAUCAUCGAUGAUCAUCUCAUUUCUACUCCACAAUUCAUUAGUGGACGUAUAAUUUAUGGAGAUUUCUUGACUUUCAGGUACGGUUGCCACUCCAGGGGCACUUGUCUCACCAAUGACGUUUUCCUUGUCAAGAAGUACCUGUCCCUCUUUGGGGGCAUUUGUAUUAUGAAUUGUGGGCUCUCUAUUUAUUUCAUUUGGAUUCAUUUUGUCCAUCAACUUCCUCUUUCGAGGAAUUGAAUCCUUUGAGCCUAGUGGUCUGCCACGUUUUAGGCGUGCAGCAGAUUAACCAUUUGCUGGGACAUUGCUUUGUCCAUUAUGGACAUCAAUCCGUGCGGGUGCAUUUGCAGCUGGGAUAUGAGAUUUCGUCACCUUUGCUGCAUCAUUAAAUGCAUCUGGCAUCUGAUUGGCAAUACUUUGGAGGUGAACGAUCCUUCUCACUUCGUUUUCGCAUUGAGCAGUAUGAGGAUCGAGAUGAGACAAUGUGGAUACAUUCCAGGAUAAUUCAUGUCGUUUUUCAGGAAUGAGUUUGCCUUGUUCUUUAGACACAGAUUUUUCUCCCCCUAAUGGUGGGAAGAUUGUCUCAUCAAAAUCACAAUCCGCAAAUCGUGCGGUAAAAAUAUCACCCGUCAGGGGUGCCAAGUAUCUGAUGAUAGAUGGUGAAUCAAAACCAACAUAAAUUCCCAAUCUGCGUUGAGGGCCCAUCUUAGUACGUUGCGGUGGUGCAAUGGGCACAUAUACCGCACACCCAAAAAUUCUUAAAUGUGAAAUGUUUGGUUGAUUUCCCAAUACGAGUUGUAUUGGAGAACAUUGAUUGUUGGUGACGGGCCUCAAUCGCACAAGCGAUGCUGCAUGUAAAAUGGCAUAUCCCCAAGCAGAAACUGGCAACUUUGUUUUCAUUAGCAAAGUGCGUGCUAUCAAUUGAAGGCGUUUAAUUAAAGCUUCUGCCAAGCCAUUUUGAGUAUGCACAUGGGGAACAGGAUGUUCAAUAUCAAUGCCUAGUGACAUGCAGUAGUCAUCAAAAGUCUGAGAUGUAAAUUCACCAGCAUUAUCGAGUCUGAUUGACUUAAUGAGAUAAUCUGGGAAUUGGGCUCGUAAUUUAAUUAUCUGAGCCAAAAACCGAGCAAAUGCCAUCGGGUAGAUGCGUCUACCAAGACCAUAAAGUACCGAAAUGGUCCACAUGGGGGAUGAAUGGGUCCACAAAUGUCCCCUUAAAUUCUCUGCAAAAAUGAUGGAGACUCAACAUCAACCUUUAGUUGUGAUGGUCUGAUCACCAACUUCCCUUGUGAACAAGCUUGGCAAAAGAUGUCGCUUGAUAACAUAAUGUGUUUAGUCAACAAGGGAUGUCCUUUAGAGUUGGUGAUGAUCCUGCGCAUCAUGGUGGAUCCAGGAUGACCCAACCUGUCAUGCCAAAGCUUAAAAGGAUUUGAGUCAGUGGACUCUUGGUCCAUGACACUAUGUGCCUCAAUUGUCCGUAUGGUUGUGUAAUACAACCCUGAUGAGAGCUCACAAAGCUUUUCCAGUAUAUGCUUUUGAGUAUCACUGGAGGUAAUACAAAGAUAUUCCAUGUUUUCCUCUUUCUUUGUUUCAACAUGGUAGCCAUUCAAACGUAUAUCUUUGAAACUCAACAGAUUCCUUCUGGAGUUAGAUGAAUACAAAGCAUCUGGAAUGGACAGUAUUGUUCCAUUCGGUAACAUAAUUUGGGCUAUUCCUGAACCUUCAAUCAGAUCUGCAGGACCUGAUAUGGUUGUUACCUUUGCUUUUGUAAGCAUUAAUUUUGAGAAAUACUUCCGAUCUUGAAAGAUCGUAUGAGUAGUUGCGCUGUCUGCGAGACAAAUAUCUCUGUCAUAGCCUUUGUUUUGAGGGCAUCCAUAAUUUGCAUCCAUGCCACCAAAUAAGUAAAAUAAGCUGGAUUAAUAAAGAAGAAAACAUUACCACUUUUAUUGGAUUGAAAUUUAAACAACACUUCAGCUAAUACAAGUAGUAUAUUAAGGAAUUUAAUCUAAUUCGGACACAUAACCUUCAUUCCCUCUUUCAGUAACAAAAUCAGAAACAUCUAGAUGCGUCUUGUUUAGCUGACGUGAUAUUUCUGAUGAGCCAUCUGUGGCUGGCGGAGCAUGAUCAAUGUAAUUUAUCUCCACUUUCCUGUUCUUAAGUGAAGCUUGAUAGAGAUCCGCCAAAUGCCUGGGCGUACGACAUGCGCGCACCCAAUGUCCCUUUGCACCACAUCUGUGACAAGGGCUUUCAACAUUUCUAGGCACAUGGCUCAUCUGUGCCUUUCCCUUAUUACGGGAUGCAUUUUUGCCAUUCGUGGAUGGACCGCUCCUUGGACCUAAGCCCUCUGAACGAGCACCACGAUUUUUUCUACUUCCUUGCCAGUGGCCACGCUUGCCCCCUUGCCCACGUUUGUGGAUACUGCCACGAGAUGAAGUGGCAUUCACUUCCUGAGAUGCAGCAUUUAUUUCAGGAAGUGGUGCGGAGCCCGUUGGGCGAGAUUGGUGAUUCUUUAAUAAGAGCUCAUUAUUCUGCUCAGCUAACAAGAGGCAAGAUACAAGUUCCGAGUACUUCUUGAAACCGCUAUGUCUGUAUUGCUGCUGAAGGAGGACAUUUGAAGCAUGAAAAGUGCUCAGAGUUUUUUCGAGCAUAUCCUCAUCAGAUAUAUUUUCCCCACAUAGCCUCAUUAAUAAGGUAAUUCUGUGCAUAGCAGAGUUAUACUCGGACACUGACUUGAAAUCUUGAAAUCUCAAGUGGGUCCAUUCGUAUCUAGCUCUUGGGAGAGUCACCGUCUUCUGGUGAUCGUAUCUUUCACCUAGAGCUUUCCACAGAACCAACGGUUCAUCAACCACCACAUAUUCGCUCUUCAGCGCUUCAUGGAUGUGGCGGCGAAGAAAGAUCAUGGCCUUCGCAUUCUCUUCAGGCGAAGCAUCAUUCUCAUCUACAAUUGUUUGUCCGAGGCCAUUGGCUCAUAGAUAAAUUUUGGCAUCCAGGACCCAUGAUAAAUAGUUGUCCCUGGAAAGGUCCAAGGCAGCAAACUCUAGUUUUGCCAAAUUUGCCAUCCAAAACUUUAGGCUCGAGAUCUGGAAUAUUAAGCCACUUAUUAAUAGGAAUUUCAGGUCCUCAUUAUUCAGGUAUAUUAAUUGAUGAUAAAAGUAAAGUGUUAUGAAUUUGCUGGUAUGGACGAUAAACCCGCACCAUACCUUAAAUGUGCGGUAAAGUAAAUGUGUUUGUAUGGGCACUAAUUCUGCUCCAUACAUUUAAAUAAAAGUAAAGGCGUGGACGAUAAACCCGCACCACCCUUUAAAUAAAUAUUGCCGUAUGGGUAAUAAGCCUACACCAUACCAUAAAUAAAAUUAAAUGUGGGGUUAAAACCACCACCGAAUAAAAUAAGAAAAAGUUAGUAUUAGUAACGGUCUCCCACUGAUAAUAUGUUUAGUAUUACCAAGGGUCCAUUUUUGUUAAUGGUUAGUAAUAAAGAAGCAGAUAGAUAUAGUGUAUUAUAUAGUAUAUUAUAUACAGUCCUGAUCUCUUGGACUACAGGGGUCCAAGAGAUUUAUGGUCACUCACCGUUGGAUGUAAAUUCAACGGUUCACUCACUCUUGCACUCCUUUUUAAAAACUUUUUUGAACCAUUAGAUUAAUAUCCAACGGUGGGUGACCACAAUCUCUUGGACUCCUGUGGUCCAAGAGAUCGGGACUGAUAUUAUAUAUAUGUGAAUAAGACAAAUAGUCUCUUACAAAACCUUCAGCCCAGCUUUGGAGAUCAACCAAAGACUUCAAACACAUUCACCCAGCCGUAUUUUGUCCAUUCAUCUACUUAUUUUAUAUAUAUGCAUAGACAUAUAAUAAAACAAAGACUUUUCAGCCCAAUUUGCAAAGGGCUCGCAGGCUUCGGCCGCACACUACAAUAAUCCAAAGACCUUCAGCCGCACACCACAACAACCCAAAGACCUCCAGCCGCAAUCUCCUAAUAGCUCCCGUAUGCAAUAUUCCAAAAGACCCGGCCGCAAUAUUCUUCAAAGCUCGGCCGAGAUUUCCUUGGGCUCCAUCCAUCGAACCCCGGCCGCAUAAACCUUGCAUAGCCCGGCUAUAACCCUCCAGCCAGCUCUCCAAAACCCGGCCGACAAUUUCAUCUGGCCGUAGCCUUGCAAGGAAAGAUCCGGCCGACCUCAAUCUCCAGUCAUAUAUAAACUGCCCGGCCACAUCUCGCAGGCCCAGCUUCCUCCAACAAAACCCGGUCGAGAUUUCCAGCUCCACUCGAACUGCCCAGCCGUACCUGGCUGCCCAGCUGCAUACCCGGUUGUGAUUUUCAACAGCCCCAAACAAUUACCUACUGGUGCUAACGCUCCAAUACAUUCCAUUGGGUUCAUAUCUUUUGAUUCCAAUAUUCCUUUACACAAUGUUCUUUGUGUCCCUUCUUUUAGGAUUAAUUUAAUGUCUGUUAGCAAGCUUAUCAAAUCUCUGAAUUGUUAUGUCCUCUUUUUUCCUGAUUUUUGUCUUUUGCAGGAUUUGGCAAAGAAGAAGACAAUUGGCUUAGGUAAACAACAUGGCGGACUCUAUUAUAUUCACCUUGUUCCUACUCACCCAUCCUCAAAUCACGUCUCCACUUCAUCAAAUUUUUGGCAUCAAUGUCUCGGUCACCCUUCACAUGCUCGCCUACAAUUACUUACUAAAAUAAAUCCAGCUAUCGCUUCUAUGCGCCCAUUUUUUAUGGAGCAUGGCAUCGUUUAUCAAACUACAUGUGUCUAUACUCCUCAACAAAAUGGAGUGGCCGAGCGUAAACAUCGCCACAUUUUAAAUGUUGCUCGUUCUUUACGAUUUCAUUCAAAUGUUCCUUUAAUCUUUUGGGGUGAAUGUGUCCUUACUGCUACGCAUGCCCACUCCUUUGUUGUCAGAAAAGUCCCUUUAUGAACUACUCUAUGAUCGUGCACCCUCAUUGGAUCAUUUGCGAGUCUUUGGGUGUCUUUGCUAUGACACAAAUGUCCAUCCUGUCCAAAAAUAAUAUUCACGUGCCCGUCGUUGUAUCUUCACCGGCUACCCUGCAUGGCAAAAAGUAUAUCGCCUUUAUGAUCUCACCACGAAACAAUUUUUCUCUGGUCGUGAUGUCAUUUUUUAUUCAAACUCUCCAGGUAACACACAGCCAAACCCAAUUGUUUUGCUAUGCAUAGACUCUUCUCAUGAGCCAUGUAUAAAUCCAUCCUUCACACUUCCUCAUCAACCUGAUGUUUCACAGAUGGAGGAAUCACAGCAUCUUGACCAAUCCCAUCCUUCAGUGGAGGAGUCACCUUCUGUUAUUCCAGUAAAUGAAUCUAAUAAUUCUUCCACCAUUCAUGCGGAUCAUCAUAACUCCACUCAUCUUGCCUCGCCGGAGCCGGUUUCUCUUCCUCCAACUCUUCCCAUCGCUUUCACCCCCAUAGAACCAGAUUCCUCGGUGACGGCUCACCCAUCUCCUCAUCUGGAACCAACCCAUCACUCCACUUGUCCUAUAAGACCUCCUAUUUGGCAUCGUGAUUAUAAACUGUCUCAUGCUAUAUUGCAUACCCAGGUUCCAUUGUCCGACUCUAUGCCAAGUUCUAUGAAAGGUACUCGUUAUCCCUUGUCAAAUUUUGUUUCUUAUGCACGUCUAUAACCCGCACAUCGUUCUUUCUUAGCCGUUAUUUCAGGUCAAACAGAGCCCACUUCUUAUGAUCAAGCUGCACAUGACCCCAAUUGGCAACAAGCCAUGACUGCCGAGAUUAUUGCUUUGGAGCAAAAUAACACAUGGACCCUCACAUCCUUGCCUCAUGGGAACAAGCCCAUUGGUUGCACAUGGGUGUAUAAAAUCAAACAUCGUUCGGAUGACACCAUUGAGCGUUACAAAGCUCACUUAGUGGCUAAAGGCUACACUCAACAAGAAGGCCUUGACUAUCAUGAGACCUUCUCCCCCACUGCCAAACUUGUCACUGUUCGAUGCUUGCUUGUUAUUGCUAUUGCUCGACAUUGGCCUCUCCACCAACUUGACGUGCAAAAUGCUUUCAUCCACGGACAUCUUGAUGAGGAAAUAUAUAUGCUUCCUCCACCGGGCUUUCUUCGACAGGGAGAGAAUCUUGUGUGUCGACUCAACAAGUCACUAUAUGGACUUAAACAAGCAUCACGAAACUAGUUUUCCAAAUUUUCCAAUGCUAUAAAAAUGGUGGGAUUUAAUCAAUCCAAGGCAGACUACUCUCUAUUCACCAAGUCACAUGGCUCAUCUUUCACUGCUUUAUUGAUUUAUGUUGACGACAUUAUAAUUACAGGCAAUGAUCCAACCUCCAUUAAAUCUCUCAUGGGAGUCCGUCAUGAAAAAUUUCACAUCAAGGACAUAGGUGACCUCAAAUACUUUUUGGGCAUUGAAGUGUCAAGAUCUAAGUGUGGAAUUGUCAUCUCUCAACGAAAAUACACCUUGGAUAUUCUAAAAGAUGAUGGUCUUCUUGGAGCACGCCUAUAUGAUUUUUCCCUGGAGCAAAAGCUAAAGCUAACUCCAACUUAUGGUGAUCUGUUACAUGACCCUACUCACUAUAGGAGACUUGUUGGGCGCCUCAUAUACCUUACUAUAACCAGGCCAGACAUUGUUUACUCAGUACAUAUACUUAGCCAAUUCAUGCACCAGCCACGUAAGCCACACCUUGAGGCAAUACUUCGAGUUUUGCGACAUCUAAAGGGUUCACCCGGCCAAGGACUUUUGUUUCCUUCAGAAAACAACCUAAAGCUGACAGCCUUUUGUGACUCUAACUGGGCAAGCUGCCCAACUACGAGAAGAUCUACAUGUAACAUCCCACAUCGACCAACGGAGAGGGGGUGAUGUCCCUUAUAUGUAUAUGCCCACUUCCAUCUAGCACGAGGCCUUUUGGGAGCUCACUGGCUUCGGAGUCAUGUGAACUCCAAAGUUAAGCAAGUUUGGGCUAGAGCCCUUAUUGUAAAAGUAUCAUACUAACACCAACUGAUGCACCUAAACGAGUAUGAUAAUCAAUUCGAUCUUGGUUUGAGUGUUUUGAGAGAAUUGUUUCAAUAUGCUGCUUUUGGUUUGAUAAGACCUCACAACUUCUCCAAGCUUUAUUAUGGGCACUAUUCGGUCCUCCAACAUGAAUUUGUAGUCUAUCUUUUUUCUUCCAAUUCGAAAAUCCAACACCAACAAAAGAUUCACCACCAAGUUGCUCUCCAAUAUCAGGUUUAAAGAGAUAACAACAUAGACAAAAGACAGCAUCUUUUUCUACGCUAUACUCUAACCAAGUAGGAUAUUCACUAAACCAACCAGGAUUAAAUCGUCUUUGUUUUGCUCCAAAAUUUUUGUAAGGAAAAUUAUGCCCUCGAGGUUGACAAAGACCUUUUUGGAGAUAAGCUCUUCGAACUUGGUCUUGAACAUUCGGAUGGUAACUUAAUAUUUGAUUACGUAAUCCAGGAUCAGAUGGUAGAUUUUCCAAGUUAACUUUCGUAGUUUGGUUUGGACUACUUUCAUUUUUCUUUUGACUCUUUGCAGGUGACGACUCUACUAACUCAGAUUUUGAUUUUCUUUUGAAAAAUCUUUCCAUAACUGAAACACAUAUAUGAACUAAAUUUAAAUCAAAACAAUUAUGAACAUCUUCUCAAACUUAUAAACCGAAGCAAAUUGAGCAUUCAAUUCAAAGCAAUAUAUUAAUCAAACUAAUAGAGAAUCAUAUAUAUAGAAAUUUAUAAAAUUAAAUUAAAAUUUCACCAACACAAGUUCACAAUUGCAUUAAAGGGAUAAACAAUUACAUACUACGCAAGAAAAAUUACAAGGGAUAGACAAAUACAUACUUGGAGUUGAAUAGCGAUUUACCAAAUAUCUCCAACCAAAACCUUUUCCCUUUGGUAAUCUACACAUAAAUUGAAAGACCCAUCAUAAUCAAUAGAAAUAAAAAUAAAAUAAAAAACUUGAUAAUAUAAUUAGAAUUUUAGAAGAAAAAAAACUCACCAGCAGGUUGGUCUAGUGGUGUUUCUAACCUAAGAAAAGGGAAAAAGGCAAUAUAUAAUAAUAAUAAUUCUAAUCCUUUUAAGAAUGGGUAGUGUAUAAUUUUAGGAUAUUUGACUGGCCCACGUUGAAAUCUAUGGACCACGCCACUAUGACUUAACUUUUGGUUGAAAUCUUCCUUCUUUGGCCCAUAUCCAUAUAGCCAGACUCCUAAUAUUAGUACUAAUUUUUUUAUUUUUUUCUGCACUGGUCCCCAAGUGCCUCCGCCACAGUAUGAUAUUAUGUAAUAUAAAUUCCAGGGAUAUAUGUGAAGGCCUUGACUCGGUUUUCAUUUUGUACAUGUCUACUUGGUUCUUUUUGGUCAUCAAUUAAUAUCUACGUUUUUCAAAUUGGUUCAAAUUGGGCUUUUUCUUAUUAUAUAUUUCUCAUUCCAAGCUAUAUGGGGAAAUGAGAAUUCGAAUACAGAAUUUCGGAUUUGAAAUUCAGGGUAACUGCUCUUAACUACUUGAAUUAUAAGCUCCUUGUGUUUUAAAUUGGCUUUUAUUUUCAUAAAAUUAUGUCCAUCUCAAAUUCCUAAAUGUUAUUUUCCCUACAAUAUGUAAAAUUGAUGCAACAUUUCGAGGAUCAUUGAACACCAAAUGAAGCAGUGUGUUUAUUGUGUCAAUUUGUCCAACACACACAUACAUAGUCACUCACACAUAAUCGCAUACAGUUUGCUAUAUUAAAGUGCUUCAAAUUAUUGGCCACAGAUGGAAGCUACCCAAUUCUGCUUCAAAUUAGCAUCAAUGAUCUAUAGGAAGUCUUUAACAUUGCCUUUAGGAUUCUCUUGAAACCUUGCUAUCCUAAAGUGCUUUAGCUCCACUCCUUGAGCCUCCCCACUAAGUGCGAGGUCAGCCAAUAUCCUCCCCACCACCGGAGACAGCUUGAACCCGUGACCCGAAAACCCGCCACCCACCACCACAUCCUUCCCAAACUCCCCACCCAAGAAAUCAAUCACAAAGUCCUCAUCCGGGGUCAUGGAGUACAUACACAGCUGAGUGGCCACCGGCCCACCGGAGUCAACCACACCGGAGAACCUCCCCUCAAUCCACUCCUUCAACGGAGCCAGCGGGUUCCCGGGUCCCCACGGCCUCUUAUCCGGGUCACAUGGGUACCCGCCAUGCACGGCAACCUUGAUCAAACCGGGGUACUCCAAAGAGAGUGUCCCAUAAAUGUAGGUAUCCCCAUAGCUAGCAAAGGUUGGAAAGUCACCACCAAUGGCAAAACCACCCUCAUGCCCCUCCUUAAUCCUCCAAUAACAAACAGCAGUCUCCAAUGGCUGCAUAGGCAGCUCAAUUCCACCAACCGUUUUAACUAACUUUGUAGUCCAAGCCCCAACGGUCACCACACACUUCUUCCCCCAAAACCUCUCUCCAUUUUCUGUGCACACCCAAACCCCCUUUCUCACCCCAUCUCUCUCCACACCCUUCACCUCCAUAUUGUCCCUCAAAACGGCACCAUUCUACAGAGCAAGUGUUUGAAACAUAGACACAGCCUUGGUGGGUUUAAUAACCUCACCAUGCUCCGUCGCCACGGCCACCCAAUCCUUCGAAAUCCGAACCCGACCCCAGAACUCCCGAUCCAGCUGGUCCCGCUUCAUGACCCGAAAGGGGACCGAAUUUUUACCACAGCUCUCAACAAUGGCAUGCAGAACUUUGUUGUUUGCCGGGGCCAUGUCCAAAUGGUGAACUUUGAAGUAGACAUUGUAGCCGAUCUCGGACUCGGCUUCCUGCCAGAGCUUGUAGGACUCGAGAACCUUCUGGGUAAGUGGCGCGGAUCGUCCAGGACUCGCCAACCGCGCCACGGGAGGAGCCGCGGUGGUGGAGGAAGUCGAAUUGCUCGAGGAAGAGGGUCUUCUGGUCACGCUUGGCCGUCUGGUAGGCGGUGGAGCUACCCAUGAUGCCGGCUCCGACCACGAUGACGUCGAAUUCAUCGGCGGAAUAUUCCAUUUGUGCGAAAUUUUUCAGGCGAUUGUUGGAGGAAGAAGAAGAAGACAGAGGAAGACGGUUGACAUGUGAUUUUUGCUGGCUACGUGCCACAGGUGGUAGAGGAAGUCGAAUUGCUCGAGAGUCAGUGAGAGUGUGUUUUUAAAGUAGAAAAUUCGGUAUAAGUCCAAUUCUUAUGAUAAAAUUUGGGUGCAAUCCACACAUUUGUUGUUAGUAAUUCAAGUCUUCUGACUUUUGUGCCAUGUAGGAUUACUUACCUUUUUUUAAUUUCUAAGGUUUAUAUUUUAUUUUCUUAAUUUUUUAAUUUACGUUGUGCUUCCAAUUUUGCACCUAAGAUAGAAAUCGGAUAACCUAAAUGCGAGCAUAAUAUCAAAAAUCGCGUUAAACAAUCUUCAGACGCCAAGAAUAGAAAGAAUCUUAGAAAUCGUAUCUUCCACAAUUAAUUAUGGCCCUGUCGUAUAGGUAAUCGCAGGUACCUAGUCAAAGGUAUAUGCCAAACUUCAAAACUAUCAUAUAGGUAAGCUCUUGUCGCAGGUAUGUAUAGGUAAUCGCAGGUACUUGUGUCAUAGGUACACUUUCGGAAGUUACCUGUAGGAUAGGUUCUUCGUGAAGCGUCAUAUCAAGCCACUGCGUAAAGUACCUGCGCCAUAGGUACACUAUUUAUAGCAUUAAAGAACAAUUAACACUCAAAAAAAAAAAAAUAGAAGAGAAAGAAAUUUAAAAUGAAAAAUGGAAAAGUCGACUAGGAGUGGAGUAUUUAUACUUUGAAUUGGGCGGGAGCUGGUUUUUCCCAUUUGUAAAUAAAUACUUUGCUUUUGUUUAAGAUCACACGGGUUGUCAUCUACUACUGGAAUUUACUCUAUCAUUAGUAGUAAUUAUGCAAUUUGGAUUUGGGGGAUCUGAGAUAUGCGAUUUAGAUUAACAGAUUGGGAAAGACGUCCUUUACUUUCCAUUUGUAUACAAUGACAGGUGUUGUAAAUAAAUUAAAUUUUGUGGCAACACUAUUUGCUUAGGUGGCUGCACGACUGGGCUUUAGGACUGGAAUUAAUAGGUAACAAUUACUGUCCUACAAUCAAACUGUAUUCUUGAAAUUUGACCCAUAUCUAAGAGUGGGAUUUUUUGGACCCGCCAAAUUCUUCCUCUGAAUUACGAUAUUGCCACGGGUUCAUUUUAUGCUUUGUCCUUUGUGUAGUAAUUUUGUGCGAAUCGCGCCACUUUACUUUGUUUUUUUUUCUUUCAAUUUAUAAAUAAAAAAUCAUGCUUUAGGACUUUUGGAAAUUUAAAAAGGUAAAAAGAAGAAGGGUAUAUUCCUUCUUGUCUCAAUUCCUUAAUUAAUAUGAAUCGAAUAUUUAUCAUCGGUUAAGCAUGUCUUCCACAAGAGAAAGUGAAACAUCGUAAAGUUACAAAUUUACUAGUAUAAAUUGAUUGCUUCAGUAUGAUAAACCUAAUCAGAAUAGUGAUGCACCAAAACUUUGUGUCCUAGUCCACUUAGGGAGAAAAAGGCUAAUGAUCACUACGGGAUUUGAUAUUAGAGAAGUAUAUAUUUUCCAUUACAGAGUUGCAUUAUGCGGAUUAAUUGCGAAUUUCUAUUUUUGCCGUGAGAUCAUUUCAGGCUUCAUUUCAACGCUUCAUUUCCCAAGUUCAUUCUUCUCUCUCUCUCUCUCUCUCUCUCUCUCUCUCUCUCUCUCUCUCUCUCUCUCUCUCUCUCUCUCUCUCUCUCUCUCUCUCUCUUCCUUUUUGUUUUCCUUUCCUUCUCUCUUCUCUCUCUUUCCUUUUCUUUUCCUAUGUAAUUGUGCACUUAAUGAAAAAUUAGAUGAACACUCAAUUUCAUUACAUGAAAAAACCAAUAAUGUAUCAAAAUUAAUUGCAAUUGUUCGUGGAGAAUUAACUUCCAAAAAUGUCAGUUGAAUCCUUGAAGAGAGGCUUGUUGCAUAUGGAAAGAGUUGAAAAGGAAAAAGACAAGGAGCUUCUUCUCUUGCGUAGAAAUAUUGGCUUACUUUUUGAAGCAUGCACUAGUUCAGUUAUGGAAAUGGGUAGAAUAAAAACUGAAUUGGUUGGAAAUGGUUGGGCUGCUGGAGAUCAAAGGACACUACUACAAAAAUCACAAUAGACGACGGGAAUUGUUCGCUCUAAAACUAAACAGAUAGAAAUAAGGCUAACUUACAAGUGGAGUAGAGAGUUUGGGCUUGAGGAGCCUUCGGCUCAUAGCGUCCUUCCUUAUGGCCUAGUGCUGUAUCCGGCCUGGAGAAAGAAAAGGCAGGUGAAGUUUGAGACACCGGUGUGGCGCCGGCCGAAGACCCUCUGAUGCCGAAAUUAGUGACUAAGCGCAAUUAUAUUGACAAUGUGAAAGCACAAGUCAAGCAAAAAGUCUUACCUCUUGGCUGGGCCAAGGGGCUCUAUUUAUAGAGAGCAUUUGUGAUGCUUUUAGUACUUAGUUUCGAUAUGGGACUCGUGGGAGUGUCUUCGACGGUCGACACGUGCCCUGACAGGUUUUGGUUGGAGUUCCGAGGUAAUCUGUCAGAAUCGGCCGGAUGUGCUGACUGGUCACUCGGCACCGUGUACCGAAGGUUGGUGCGAGCGAGUCGAUCGAUUGCACUUACCAACUUGACGACCACAUAUGGAUCGGUGGAGUAUGCCGAAUGAUCUUCGGCAUAGCUUGCUAAGAUGGUCUCAGCCUCAUUUACUUUCCACGUGUCAUGACGUGAGUGGCGGGUUAGAUAUGGUACAAAUAGGAAUCCAUUGUCGUGUAGAUGGUUUUUAAAUCGUCGUAAAAUUGACCACCAUCUUUUGAUGCAUAAAAUUUUCGUGAAAUUGACCACCGUCUUUGGCAGCAAUCACAUUAGUAAGAGAUCUGACCCUCUCUUGCAAAUCGGUACAAGUGGCACGACCAUCUUCUAGCUCUUUCACUCUCUGCUCCAAUUGGUUACGUUCACCCUUCAUCACUUCCACUUGUUUUUCCAAAUCAUGCACCAACGUUUUUUAGGAUUGAAGAUCCAUUGAAUAACUUGUUGCAGCCGCUUCAGCCCCCUUGAUUUGACUUACAAGCUCCAUGCAAAUCCUUUCCUUUUGAAUGUCCUUCUCCUGAAGUUCUUUCUGCAACUUGGAAAUGGUAAUCUUCAAUUCCUUUUGGUUACCUUCCAUAAUUUCAAUUGUCAGAGUACCAAAAUCAUUCACAGUCAAUCUAUAAUCGCCCGUCUGUCAUAGUCCUGACACAUUCCUCAGAGUGAAACUGCUCAUCUCCACACAAAAAAAAAGUAUAUCAAUAAGAAAAUCUGCUGAUUUCAAUCUCAUCCCUUGAUCUCCAGCAGCCCAAGAUUCAAAUAUAAAAAAUCUUAUAUCUUUACAAGAUUCCAAACUUCUUGGCUUUGAAUCACAUGAUUGUCAUACCUUGAUGCAACAAUUGCUCUCUGUGGCAAUUCGUUCUGUUUUGGAGAAGCCUGUAAGGUAUGCAAUAACUCGAUUGUGCUUCUUCUUCAAUGCUAUAUGUACAAAGACGGUGGAUGUUUCCAAGCUAGAUAAGUUGGAAGAAGAUAUAGUAGUUACUUUGUGUUUGCUUGAGAAAUAUUUUCCCCUUUCAUUCUUCGAUAUCAUGGUUCAUCUAUUAGUACAUCUUGUCAGAGAAGUUCAUCUAUGUGGCCCAGUUUGUUUUAGAUGUAUGUAUCUGUUCGAAAGAUAUAUGAAAGUGCUAAAUGGGUAUGUUCAUAGCCGUACUCAUCCCGAAGGUUGCAUUGCUGAGCGGUAUAUAGCUGAAGAAGCUGUGGAGUUUUGCACCGAGCAUUUAUAUGAUGUUAGUACAAUUGGAGUGCCAUCAAGCCAGAAGAUGGGACUUUCAAAGCCACUAUCAGGUUGCUCAGUGAGUUUAGUUGAUCGGGACCUGUUGAACCAGGCAUAUCUAUAUGUCUUAGAGAAUACGGAGGAAGUCCUACCUUAUAUCUAGUAUGAGUUUGAUUCAUAAUGUUUUAAAUUAUUCCUUAUGUUUUCCUUAUAUACAAAGGACCAUAAUGCUUGAAUUCUACCAUGUAGGGAACAUAUGAUCCACAUCAAAACCACUUAUCCAAAAUUUAAAAAGAAAACACAGUGGCUGCAAGAUAAGCAUAACAACACUUUCAUUCAAUGGUUACGUUUUGAGGUAUAUGUUAUGGAAUAACAUAUUGGACUUUUAUUUUUCUUCUUUCUAUGUUAGAUUGAAUUAAGAUAUGAUUAAUUUGCAAGUUCAAAGUGAACUCAAUGGGAAAUACAAUAAUGACGUAUCAGAAAAUUUGAGGUGGCUAGCAGCUGGUCCAAGCAUGGCAGUGCCAUCACAUAAGAGUUAUCUUAUUAAAUGUGUUAAAUUUAACACCAAUGCACAAGAUGAUGUCCGGAUUGUUCAAAAUAGUGGAGUUUAUUUACUUGCAAAUACUAUGCAAGUUGCAAGUGCUAAGGACAAAAACUCGAUUGUCUCAAAUAUGGGUUUUUAUGGUGUCAUUCAAGAUAUUUGGUUGACUACCAAAAGUUUAGAAUCCCAGUCUUCAUGUGUGAUUGGAUAGAUAACGCUUAUGUCCUUGUAGUCGACGGACUUGGAUAUACCUUUGUAGAUCUUAGUAAAAUUGGACAUAGGACUGACCAAUUUGUUAUGGCUUCUCAAGUCAAACAAGUAUUUUUUGUUGCCGACCCAAUGCAUCAUAGUUGGUCGGUAGUGUUAUCAAUGCCGAAUAGAGAAUAUGAUGAUGUUAUUGGUGAUGAUGUGCUAAGUGAUGUGAGAUUUGAGUCUGAGCCAUUUACUAGAAGGAUGCCAAAUGUUGAUGUGAGCCAUGCACAAUAUCAUACCACAACCAUAAUAUAGGUACCGACGUCUAAAGAACACACAUGACUGUCAUUUAGUUGAAAGCAUCGUACAUAAUAAUCAAACAACGACGGUCGCGUGCAGCCGUUACUACUGUAUAUUCACGACGGAGUUGUUCAUAGAAGUGACAUUUCAAAUAUAAUAACACGAUGAUAAAGGGUACAAAAUGACGUAUUUAACGACUUCACUAUGACCUUCCAUAUAUAUAUUUACCGUCAUCUAUCAGAACCACAAAAGCCAUUUUAGUUUAAAUAUUUAUCGUUAAAUAUUCAGGUCUGAGUUAUCAGGUCGUGUUGAUAUCGUGUUGACCUGUUAGCCACCCGUUAAACUAACGGGUUGUUUCGGUGUUCAUUCACGAAAACAUGAAUCCACUAGUUAAUGGAGUAAUUUUGUAAUUUACUAUUCUAAAAUCCCUACCUACCUAGUGCUUCGUCUCUUCAUUUCGCGUCUCUAGCUCUUCACCUUCUCUCUCUCAACCUUAUCAUCUUUUCUUCUUGCGAUCUCUAUGUCAAAUGUUCUCUUCUCUUCUCAAAACCUCUCUCAAUGUACGAUUGCUCUCACUCUUCUUCUUGUUCUCAAGUUGAUGUCUUUCUUGAUUUUCUGUUUAAAUUAAUAUAUUUUGGAUUUUUGUUGUCUUGUGUAUUCGUUGCCUUUGCUUGGUUUGUCUUUUAACACAAAUGGUGGGUUAUCUUUGUGUUUAGGCCCAAAAAAUCCAAGGUUGGGCCCAAAUAUAUUUCUAACCCAGUACGACACCUAACUUGGGAAUAAACCCAAAUUUGGUACACAAGAAUUUGUUAUAUGCGCUUGCACGCAUGGCACGCCAAGAAAAUAUGCAACAUGCCAGUGCAGAAAGGUCAUAACAGGCCCGUAAAAUGUACUGGUUCUAUGAACCCAUGCUCAUUAUCCUGUCAAGCGCCAUUUUGGCUAGGCCAUAGCCCUUAUAAAACGGCAAAGCUAGAGCACAAGCACGCCAAAUAACAUGCCACGCUAAGCGAAAAAUCCUUACUUUUGCACCAAGCCACGCCACAAGCUUAACUGGGCCUAAGCCACGCGAACGCCAGGGCUUGCUAAGUAGGUUGUUGUAUGGAUGGUUACGAGCAUUCACGAGGCUCAUUGAUGAGCCAAGAAGUGGAAGUUUUGGGUCGCUUGGGAGUAUGAAAGAGAGAAAAAGGUGGCCCGUUACCUUAGAAAAUUAGCCCAUCACCUUAGUCAAAAAUAGUCCAUCAUUUUAGAAAGUUAGUUCAUCCCCUUAGUAAACUAGCCCAUCAUCUUCGGGAGUGGCCCAAGUGACUUGAAAAAUAUCUGAAAGUCUCCAACACAUGGCUGGAGAUAAAACCACGAUGGACCACCUAAAGAACCAAAAGGUAUUUGAGUGUGCAGGCUCCUUGAAGUCUCCAGCACAUGGCCAAAGACAAACCUAACACAAGCCAUCCAAAAAACCAAAGGAUACUUAAGCAAAACACUCAUCAGACCAACACCAUUACCCACUACUUUUUUCCACCAGCUCUUGCCAUAAAAUGAAGGGAAAAAGAAGGGGAAAUGGUAGCCCAAAAUAGGAGAUGGUCAUAGGGACAGCUACGGGAAGGCUCUAAAGCCUUCAAAAUUCUUGUCUCUGUGUGUUUGGAUUGAGGAGGAUUUCACCAAAUGGGGAUGAAUCAAAGGAAGAGAAAUAGAGGGGGAGACUUGGUAGAUUAGGGAGAAACCAGCUAGGGUUUCUUGGGAAGAAGGAGCUUUCAGUGCCUAUAAAAAGAGGCAUCACCUACCUAUCAUCAUAACCACAUCCAGAGAGAGUAAGCAUGACCUCUCAUCCCUGGAACGCUUUGAUUUCAAACCUUAUUCCUCCAUCUCUUCCCAUUUUCUCUUCUAGCAAGCCAUUCCAAAGCCUGAUGAAGCUUUCGUCAAGCUGCCGAAAAAUUGCUCAAACCACCCAUUCUUCCAUCUUAUUCCUCUCUCUCCCAUAAUCACAUCCAAAGAGAGCAAGCAUUACCUUUUAUCCCUGGAACCCUUCGAUUUCAAGCCUUAUUCCUCCAUCUCUUCCCAUUUUCUCUUCUGGCAAGCCAUUCUAAAGCAUGACGAAGCUUUCCUCAAGCUACUGAAAAAUUGCUCAAACCACCAAUUCUUCCAUCUUAUUCCUCUCUCUCCUAUAACCACAUUCAAAGGGAGCAAGCAGCACCUCUCACCACUGGAGCCCUUCAAUUUCGAGCCAUGUUCUUCCAUUUCUUCCCAUUUUCCCUUCUGGCAAAACACUCAAGGGCCUGAAGAAGCUUUCGUCAAGCUGCCGAAAAUUUGCUAAAACCACGCAUUCUUCUAUCUUCAUCUUUACCUCUCUUCCCUCAACAAAUCAUCCCAAAAACUCCCUCUUCCCCUUACUUCUAGCCUCUGUUUCUCAUAAGAAACCCAAGCCCUCUCUCUCUCAUGCUAAACUCAUGAAUGCUCAACUCUCAUGCCACAAGCUUAUCAAGCCAAGCCUAAAUAUUUAUCUGUAAGCAACUGUUGGUUUUGUUGGUGAAGGAAGCCAAUAUGUUUCCUAAGGCUUCAUGUACCUUUUGAAGCACUCUUGGGGCCUGAUUAUUGAACUCAGACACAGGGGCAGCUCUAGUCAUUCGAACUUUAUGGCAGCCUAGGCCCAUCUUUAGCCGCCAGAAUGAAAAAGCCCCUACACUUUGGUUGUGAUUGAAAGAGCAAGGAAGGUGGUUGUGACGGCUGCCUCAAGAGUGCAAAACAUAAAUCAAUGGCGAACCUUUUGUGGAAGAAGAUGGAGGGCUAGGGCUCCCAAGCAAUGAAUGAAAUCGAGCACAAGCCUUGGAAUCUAUUUCACUUUUUCAUCAUAACCUAUUUUCUCAUUUCCAAUGUUUGAUUUUUAUGUAUGCAUAAUCUAUUAAUGUUGUUCUGAACCUUGGAUCUGUUGUGCAAAACUUAACUCCCUUCAGGAUCUUGUUCUUGAUGGACUAUGUAACAAACUCUCACAACCCACAAGGAUGAAAGAAACACUCACACACUCACAAGAAAAAUAAGCAAGCACACAAAGAACACAAAGAUUUAUAGACGUUCAGCAACUUGCCUACAUCCUCUUAGUGAUCCCCUUUAGAAAAUUCACUAAUGAAAGAUAGGUUACAACCUUGGUUUACAAAUGGAAAUCCCUCUGAACACUAAUCUCUCCCAAGCUCUCUUUUCCUCUCUCACCCCUUGCUCAAACCCUUGAUGCUCUUGUGGACUCUCUCACUUAAUUUUCGCUCCUUGGUUUGUAUUAUAAGACUCCAACUCUUAGCUCCUAGCUUGAGCUGAUUGCUCUCUCUUCCUCCCUUGAUGGUUUAAGCCACACAUGUUGCCUUGCAUCUACUUCCUUUUUAUAGACAAGCCUUUGGAAUUAGGAUGAAGCUUCUUCUUCCUGCACAUUCGCCCUUCAGCCACUCAACAUAGACUUUGAGUUAGGUGAACCAAAAGCAAGUCACCAAUGGUUUCACCUUCAGCCACCUUAUUCAGAAAGCCUUUGAAACAAGUCAAGAAACAACCAUAAAGCGUUUUCCAAGUGUUUGCCAACCUUCAUAGAACUCAGAUUUGACUUAGGAAGUCCUUGUAAUUAGGUAGAAAGCAUAGCACAUGGAAAACAUGGCUGAAAACACGUGGAAAAUCAACACAGCACUGCAAUGGCGACCGAUCGCAAGGAGGAUGCUACCGGUCGCUUUGAGAUAGAUUCAAAACGCGCUUCUGGCCUUGCAAAAUGACCGGUCGCAAGUAUCGGUGACCAGUCGCUUUCUGGCCAUUUCUGAGUCUUCCAAUCUGCUUCGAAACCACCAGUCAUGCCUACCUGGCGACCGAUAGCUUCCUCCGAAGUUAGCAUCCUUUAGAUGAACCAAUUUUCCAACAGAAUCUAACUGAUAAUCCAUUAAUGUUGGUUAUUGAGGAGAGUGCGGCUGUGCAGUGGUUUUGGUUUCUUUUUUUUAUUAAGUUUUUUUUUUUCCUUAAAGGGUGAAACAGGUCGUGUCGUGUAAUUCGCAAAUUAUAACGAAUCGUGUUCGUGCUUGAUAUUAUCCACCCGUUUUCUUAAAGGAUUGUGUUGUGUCAACCUGUUAAGAAAAAUGGGUUGACACAAACACUGCAAACAUGACACGAAUGCCAGGUCUAGCUAUAUUUAUAUUAUUGGUGACAUGGUAAGUUAGGCAAUGACGUCGACUUUUUAAAAGAGUAGCGUCGUAGUAUAUAAUAAUAAUUACGUUCUUUCCAUAUUUACAAUUGUUACUACUUCAUUUGCACGUCGUUAAGGACCAUAAGCAUCGUGGAAUCUGUAUUAAUCACGACGGUUUAUUUUAAAGUACCGUCGUGACAAGGAUUCUGCAUUACGGUAAGUUAAUAUUUUUUGUCAUGGUUACUCUAUGUUACGGCCAGACGUGGAUAAAUUAUGCAAUGUUUGCUCCUUCAGACGACGCGAAAUUUCUAAAAGCUUUGUCUAAGAUUAUCGAAGUUGACCUUUUUUGCAGUUUUUAUAUUAAUUAGACGUCGGUUUUUAGUUGCAGAUGACGUAGUAUGUUAUAACAAUGUCGGUAAUUUACCAUCGUGAUUUUAAGUAUCAAAAGAUGAUGAUCAAUUUCACGACGAUUUAAAAACUAUCUACACGACGAUGGAUUCCCGCCAUCUAUUGUUAUUUUUGUAGUCCCUUGAUCUCCAGCAGCCCAACCAUUUCCAACCAAUUCAGUUUUUCUUCUACCUAUUUCCAUAACUAAACUAGUGCAUGCUUCAAAAAGUAAGCCAAUAUUUCUACGCAAGAGAAUAAGCUCCUUGUCUUUUUCCUUUGCAACUCUUUCCAUAUGCAAUAAGUCUCUCUUCAAGGAUUCAACUGACUCAUUUUUGGAAGUCUCCACGAACAAUUGCAAUUAAUUUUGAUACAUUAUUGGCUUUUUCAUGUAAUGAAAUAGAGUGUUCAUCUAAUUUUUCAUUAAGCGCACAAUUACGUAGGACAAGAAAAGGAAAGAGAGAGAGAAGAGAGAAGGAAAGGAAAAUAAAAAGGAAGAAUAAAAGAGAGAGAGAGAGAGAGAGAGAGAGUGAGUGAGUGAAUUUGGGUAGAGGAAAUGAAGCGUUGGAAUGAAGCCUGAAAUGAUCGGCAAAAAUAGAAAUUCGCAAUUAAUCCGCAUAAUGCAACUCCGUAAUUGAGAAUAUAUACUUCUCCAAUAUCAAAUCCCAUAGUGAUCAUUAGCCUUUUUGUCCCUAAGUGGAAGUUUUGGUGCAUAACUAAUUCUGAUUAGGUUUAUCAUAACACUUUCUCCUGUCGAAGACAUGCUUAACCGAUGAUAAAUAUUCGAUUCAUAUUAAUUAAGGAAUUGAGACAAGAAGGAAUAUACCCCUCUUCUUUUUACCUUUUUAAAUUUCCAAAAGUCCUAAAGCAUGAUUUUUUAUUUAUAAAUUGAAAGAAAGAAAAAAGCAAAAAACAAAGUAAAGGUGCGCGAUUCGCACAAAAUUACUGCACAAAGGACAAAGCAUACAAAUGAACCAGUGGCAAUAUCGUAAUUCAGAGGAAGAAUUUGGCGGGUCCAAAAAAUCCCACUUUAAAAACACACUCUAACUCUCGAGCAAUUCGACUUCCUCCACCACCUGUGGCACGUAGCCAGCAAAAAUCACCUGUCAACCGUCUUCCUCUGUCUUCUUCUUCUUCCUCCAACAAUCGCCCUGAAAAAUUUCGCAGAGAUGGAAUAUUCCGCGGAUGAAUUCGACGUCAUCGUGAUCGGAGCCGGCAUCAUGGGUAGCUCCACCGCCUACCAGACGGCCAAGCGUGACCAGAAGACCCUCCUCCUCGAGCAAUUUGACUUCCUCCACCACCACGGCUCCUCCCAUGGCGAGUCCCGGACGAUCCGCGCGACCUACCCGGAAGACUACUACACGCCAUUGGUUCUCGAGUCCUACAAGCUCUGGCAGGAAGCCGAGUCCGAGAUCGGCUACAAUGUCUACUUCAAAGCUCACCAUUUGGACAUGGCCCCGGCAAACAACAAAGUUCUGCAUGCCAUUGUUGAGAGCUGUGGUAAAAAUUCGGUCCCUUUUCGGGUCAUGAACCGGGACCAGCUGGAUCGGGAGUUCUCGGGUCGGGUUCGGAUUCCGGAGGAUUGGGUGGCCGUGGCGACGGAGCAUGGUGGGGUUAUUAAACCCACCAAGGCUGUGUCGAUGUUUCAAACACUUGCUCUGCAGAAUGGUGCCGUUUUGAGGGACAAUAUGGAGGUGAAGGGUGUGGAGAGAGAUGGGGUGAGAGGAGGGGUUUGGGUGUGCACAGAAAAUGGAGAGAGGUUUUGGGGGAAGAAGUGUGUGGUGACCGUUGGGGCUUGGACUACAAAGUUAGUUAAAACGGUUGGUGGGAUUGAGCUGCCUAUGCAGCCAUUGGAGACCGCUGUUUGUUAUUGGAGGAUUAAGGAGGGGCAUGAGGGUGGUUUUGCCAUUGGUGGUGACUUUCCAACCUUUGCUAGCUAUGGGGACAACUACAUUUAUGGGACACCAUCUUUGGAGUACCCCGGUUUGAUCAAGGUUGCCGUGCAUGGCGGGUGCCCAUGUGACCCAGAUAAGAGGCCGUGGGGACCCGGUAACCCGCUGGCUCCGAACACGCUGACUCCGUUGAAGGAGUGGAUUGAGGGGAGGUUCUCCGGUAUGGUUGACUCCGGUGGGCCGGUGGCCACUCAGACUCAGCUGUGUAUGUACUCCAUGACCCCGGAUGAGGACUUUGUGAUCGAUUUCUUGGGUGGGGAGUUUGGGAAGGAUGUGGUGGUGGGUGGCGGGUUUUCGGAUCACGGGUUCAAGCUGUCUCCGGUGGUGGGGAGGAUAUUGGCUGACCUUGCACUUAGUGGGGAGGCUCAAGGAGUGGAGCUAAAGCACUUUAGGAUAGCAAGGUUUCAAGAGAAUCCUAAAGGCAAUGUUAAAGACUUCCUAUAGAUCAUCGGUGCUAAUUUGAAGCAGAAUUGGGUAGCUUCCAUCUGUGGCCAAUAAUUUUAAGCACUUUAAGAUAGCAAACUGUAUGCGAUUAUGUGUGAGCGACUAUGUAUGCGUGUGUUGGACAAAUUGACACAAUAAACACACUGCUUCAUUUGGUGUUCAAUGAUCCUCGAAACGUUGCAUCAAUUUUACAUUGUAGGGAAAAAAAAUUGUUUUUUUUUUCUUUUCCAAAUUUCGUUUUAAAAAACUGAAACCAACAUCUAGAAAUUUGAGAUGGACAUAAUUCUAUGAAAAAAAGUAGAUAUUAAUUGAUGACCAAAAAGAACCAAGUAGACAUGUACAAAAUCUGCUUGCAAAAAACCGAGUCAAAGCCUUCACAUAUAUCCCUGGAAUUUACAUUACAUAAUACCAUAAAAGCACUACUUUGGAGCUUUUGUUACAGCUAAAUUCCCACUAAUUUUAAUAAGAGAACCUAUAAUAAUAACAGCUAUCAUGUGUACAACCUUUGGUUGGGUAUUGAGGUAAACAAAUUUUGACCUAUGAUCUCUAUGAUGGAAUUUCUUUUUUCUUAUUAGAUGCAACCAAGCUUUCGAGAUUCGUUACAGUAAAAAAUGGGAAUCUGAAUUGCUUGGUUGAGCAAAAUAAUAAAUCAAUCUAACCACAUCUAGGAUGGAGAAAAAAUAGCAGAUUAAGCUUCCAACUUAAUACCCCAAUAAAAGCAUAAUCAUAGUUGGGACUAGGGGCCCAUCUUGCAUCCCAACCAAAUGUGAACCUGCAACACAAGCAAACGCAGAGCAUAAGAUUUGACUUCCAAGCAGAAUUUCCAGACAUAUCAGUAAAGCAAGAUCAGAUGUUCAAUAAAAUCAAUAAAAGAGAUUUGCAACCACAUACCACCUGACAAGAGGAUCUCUGACCAUUUGGCUUUUCAAAUUGCAAAAGUAGCAACAAGCGCAUGCAGUAUAAACCAAUAGAGUAUAAUGCCAAGCCGUAAAGCAGGUUGCCGCAUUAGAGUCCGCUCACAAGAAACCCUGGAGAUUGUGUACAAGAUGAUUUAGUUUAUUCACAAAAUCUAGGAAAGUUUCAAAUUGAAAUAUUACAAAAAAAAAUAACAAUAAUAUGGAAUUCGAUAUGCGUACCAAAGGCCAUCGACCAUGUCAGUCACAGGUCUUGUAAAUCUUGGAACAAUUCUUGAUGUAGUGAGUGACUUGAAACCAUGAACUACAGCAAAAGAAACAAAGAAAAGUCGAACACGAGUAAGAAAUGCCUUGACUUGUCUGACUUGGAAUUAGAGGAAAAGAACAGUAACAGUACUAACAGAUGACAGAAGCUAUUUCAGUAUAGGAUUUUACCUUUAUCAUCCUCUUCAUCGUCUAACCUACUAGUCUUCUCAGAAUCCAUAUCUAUCGCAAUUGCAACUUGGUCACUAUUGCCUUUGCGCAAACUGCGGACUUGAGGUGCAAUGGAGGACCCAGAUACCGCCCAGUUGUUUUUCUAUUAAAAAAAUCCACAAAUUUAAAGUCAUUAAUGACAUUACAAUACUCUGACAAAGGCCUAGAAAUGCAAGUUAAUAAACAAAUAAACAUAUAACAUCUCACCGCAGGUUCAACCUCGAUAAUUUCAGAGGUCAUACUAGUUCCUCUGCCUGAAUCUCCAACACCUUCAAGCAAAUUUAGUUGUGAUUCUUUCUCAUGUAAAGACUUCUCAAGACUUUCUCCCUUCCGUGUUAAUUCUUCUACCUUACUCCUCUCAACUUGCAAUAGCGUAUCUUUGCUUUGAGCUACAGCCUGUAGAUCCUCCAAUUCUGAUAUAAUACAAUCAAUCUUUUUCUUAAAUAUUUCCUUAUGUUCAGAGUCAUUAUCAUUGUUCUUUUCCCUAAGAUAUGCGUUGUGCACAACAACCCGAGCAAUAUUCAUAUCAAACCAUGUUAAUAACUCAAGGAUCUCAUCUGAAUUUCUUUUGUUGCUGGUUUGAGAUGCAACAAGAACAUCAUUGGUGCACCUAGUGACCUCUUGCCUUAAGAAAGAUAUCUCAGCAUCCCGAUCUUGCAAUUGUGAUUGGAGCUUUUCCACCUCAGCAAGGAGGUUUGCAGAUAGAUGAUGUAGCUCAUCAAACUUACUCACAGUGACGGAAAGCUUUUUCAUAACCUUCCCGCGAGAAGCUUCAAGGUUCUCAAGAUCUAGGUUCUUUUGUUCCACAACCUUUUCCAAUUCCUUAAUCUUGAAAGUGAGACCUUGCAUUUGCACCUCCUCAUCAUCAAGUGCUUGCAUUAGGUCCUCAAUCUCUGCAAUCACAAGCAAUUUUAUAAUUAUUGAUUAUUUGAAUAACCAUUUUAAACUCCUUCAAAAGAUAAACAUUCAAAUUAUAUAUUUGAUGGUGUGGAUCGAAUGUCAAUGAGAACUGACCUUGGUCUUUGGCAGCAAUCACAUCAGUCAGUGAUCUGACCCUCUCUUGUAAAUCGGUACAAGUGGCACGACCAUCUUCUAGCUUUUUCACUCUCUGCUCCAAUAGGUUACGUUCACCCUUAAUCACUUCCACCUGUUUUUCCAAAUCAUGCACCAACGUUUUUGAGGAUUGAAGAUCCAUUGAAUAACUUGUUGCAGCCGCUUCAGCCCCCUUGAUUUGACUUACAAGCUCCAUGCAGAUCCUUUCCUUUUGAAUGUCCUUCUCCUGAAGUUCUUUCUGCAACUUGGAAAUGGUAAUCUUCAAUUCCUUUUGGUUACCUUCCACAAUUUCAGCUGUCAGAGAACCAAAAUCAUUCACAGUCGACAAUAGCCCGUCUGUCAUAGUCCUGACACAUUCCUCAGAGUGAAACUGCUCCUCUCCACCAAAAGAAAGUCCAUCGACGGGAAAUUCUGCUGAUUUCAAUCUCAUCCCUUGAUCUCCAGCAGCCCAACCAUUUCCAGCCAAUUCAGUUUUUCUUCUACCCAUUUCCAUAACUGAACUAGUGCAUGCUUCAAAAAGUAAGCCAACAUUUCUACGCAAGAGAAGAAGCUCCUUGUCUUUUUCUUUUUCAACUCUUUCCAUAUGCAAUAAGUCUCUCUUCAAGGAAUCAACUGACUCAUUUUUGGAAGUUAAUUCUCCACGAACAAUUGCAAUUAAUUUUGAUACGUUAUUGGUUUUUUCAUGUAAUGAAACUGAGUGUUCAUCUAAUUUUUCUUUAAGCGCGCCAACCUCCACCAUGAGUUCUUGCAGAUAAUGCCUUACGUAAGUAAAGAUUUCAACAAUAAAAUUGUCAUCCGAACGGCCAUGCAUGUUGGAGUCUGACCAAGAAUUCAUCAAAGUAAAGUUCUCCUGAACAGGGAAACUGAAAUUAGAAGAUAAAGAAAAUGCUAUUUAUAUAUUUAAAAAAAUUAAUAGUCUAACUGAAGCUGAUAAGAGAGAAGAAAGCUUCAGAUGAAAAUUAAAGACUAUAAUUGCCAUACAACAUAUAACAGAAAAAAAGUAAACAACAAUCAUGAUAUGCAUAAUAGUCAUUAGUGAUAAUGAUAAUAACAGUAUGCAAAUGAUAAGAGUAUUACUAUACCAAAUUUUGGAUACCAAAUGAUGUGAAUGCGUUCAUUUCUUCAUUCUUGGUCCCACUUACUGUAAUAUGAGUCCUAGUUACUUUCAACAAAAGAUAAUGCUACAUCAUCCGUCACAUCACUUGGUAUCCAAGAGUGUGAAAAUACAUAUACAUAAAAUAAAUUCUUUUAUAAUCAUUUGACACUAAAGAGGCUUCAUUUCUAACAAGCUUACUGCAGUGAACAAAACCAUCGCACUUGUCUAACUUUUAGAUGAAUUUUAUUAGUAUUUUUGGGCAGGGGGAAGAUGCAACAGAAUUGAAACAAAGAACUUAGAAUAAGUAGGAAAUUGCCUUUAAGCCACAUAGAGAAACAAGAAUAAUAAAAAGAACGUUGUAAAAUACAGUGGAACCAAUGUUUGAGCGCACACAUAGUAAAGUACCUUAUCUGAUUUGCUCAUAAUAAAUCCACCCGUUGUUGUAAAAAGGGGUCCAUCAACCACAUCAGCAGCACUGCUUGAUUUGAGGCAGGAGUCAAUACCAGAUUCGAGGUUGUGCAAAAAUGCCAUGUCCUGGUGAAAAACACCAGCCAGUAAAUUACUAACAUCAUGGAACCCCUUCCUGAGUUGAUCUACUCCAGACUUUAAUCCCGCAAAUUCAGAAUGAGCUGUAGAUAACUUUUCAAGACGAGAAAGAGCAUCAAGCUUGGCGGCCUCUGUGAGAUCCCUUUCCUUGGAGAGUGUAGCAAGUUCACUCGCAGAUUUUGCUAGCUCUUCCUGGAGACCAUCAUUUCUCUCUUGAACCUCAUUCAGUUCUGCAAGGAGUAGCUCUGCUGCUCUUUUUGAUUUCCUAGCCUCCUGUUCUGAAGAAGCCAUAUCUACACGCAAAUCACGGCACACUUUCCAAAUAUGUUCCAACUUCAAAACAGGAUCACCAGAAUUAGCAUCAUCUCCAACAUCAAUGUUGCCUAAAACAUUUAAGAUCAAGCUCAAAGUAUUUCCCUUCUCCUGCAAAUUGUGCUCACUUUCUUUCAAACAGUUCCGCAAGAACAAAAUCUCAGACUCUAGAGCUUCUACCCUCCGUGGAUAAGCAGAGAAAUCCUUGAACUUCUCUUCAUACUCUGCAAGUUUACCUUCCCCUAUCUUGAUCUCAGAUCUCAAGCGUUCCACCUCAGAAUUGAUCUCAUCAAGAUUUUGUUUCAGACUGUCACGCUGUUGCACCAACUGCUUUCCUUUUCUAACUGCAAUGUUUAACUUAUCUCUAACGGAAACUGACUUCUGCUCCUCCUGAUUAAGCAGUGCUUGCAACUCACUCACUUUUUUAUCUAGUGCUUCUACCUCACAAGCCAAAGACCCUUGAUUCUCCAGAUAUCCAUCUCUCUCCUCCUUCACAGCCAAAAUUUCACGCUGAACCUCCUCCAACUCUUUCUUCAAAACAGCAAUAUCUGAUUCAGCAGUAUCAGGUGUACUUACACUUCUUGCUUGAUCAAACGUUGCUUCAGCAAUUUCAGUGUGGGUACCAUCAGCUGCACUCCCAAACACUGGUUUUUCGAAGGAAAGAGUUGCAUAAUUCUCUAAAAGCUUAUUCAGUAACCCUUCAAAGCACUCAAUGCUGCUUUCACCAGAAUACUCUAACUUUAAUCCAGGAACCUGCAAUGCAUCAGUAACAAGACCCUGCAAUCUUCUUAUGUCACCUUCUAUGCUGAAAAUUUGCUCCUCAUUCCCACGCAUCUUGGCUAUGUUCUCCUGCAAAUCCGUAACUUCCACCUGCAGUUUUUCAUUCUCAAGCUCAAGCUCACCUGCCUUUGCUGAAAUUUUAUCAUGAUCAUUGAUCAGAACCUCCCAUCUUUGAGAAAGAUUAUUUCUCUCAUCGAUAAAUGUUCGAAGUUCUUCCUCAAGGUCAGAUAUUCUCCUUUUUGAGUCUUCCAAAUCAGCAGUUAGUGAUACACAAUAGUUUUCAAGGUUAACAACCUUCUGCUGGAGAGAUAUAUUAUCACCCUCUGCCUCCGAAAGUGCUUUUCUUAACCACUCAAUCCUAUCCUCGGGCUCCAUGGACCGCAAAUGCGGUGGCAUAUCAAACCUGUCCAGAAGUUCCUCCCACCUCUGGACUAAGUUGUUCCUCUCCAUUAAAGAUUGUUCCAACAUUUCAUUCUGUUCAGCCAACCCAUAGAACUUACUUUGAAGUUCAUCAUAUUUUCUUUUGAUAUCAUCACUAGAAUCUGAGUUUGGCUGUACAUCAUCUUUCCAGGAAUCCAUAACAACAAAACCAGCAUCAGAGUAUGAACCUCCACCAGCAGAACUCUUCUGAUCUGAAUCUGUCAGAGGAAAAGUGUUACCAGUAGCUGACCUAGCCAGCCAAUCUAUCUUUUCAAUAAUAUCCCUCGAAUGAAAAUUCUCUGGCAGAUCAAGGUCCUCCAAAAUCUCUUCUAUUCUCUGAAGGACAGAGUCUUUGAGAAGGAAUGAUUCCCUUAAUGCAGUAGCCGAAUUGCGAAUGUAUGAAAGCUCAGAUUCCAGAGCUUCCACACGCUCACCUGCCUCUGAAUAUGCCUUGAGUUUUGUUUCAACCUCAACAAGCCUGGAGUCUUUCAAUUGCAGCUCCUGCAAGAAUCUUUCCAGCUCACUAGAUUUCUCUGUAAGAGACUGUUUGAGACCAUCUCGCUGCACAAUCAAGCCUUUCCCCUUAGAGACAGCAAUGCUAAGCUUCUCUCUUAGGGAAGACACCCGUUGCUCCGAUUGUUCAAGUUCAUUUAGUUUCUCCUGUAACUCAGAACGAGCAACAAGAAGGGCAUCCUCUGCAUGACGUAAACUUUCCUUGACAACAAUGGUUUCACUUUCACGCUGGAAACACAAAGCAUUUAAAUGCUGUAUUUCUUCCUGCAUUGAAGUCAAUUCCAUUGCCUUAGAUUGAAAACCUUCUUGAGAUAAGCCUACCUGCACAUCAGCCUCCUCGUACUUCCGAACAAGACACGACACCAAUGAUUCUAAGCGUGAAGCAGGCAUUUUAUCUACGUGAACCUCAGGAUGUUCCACUUUUAGCACACCUUCAACAUCUUUUAUUAACUUCUGAAUAGAACUUGCAUCGAGGCAUCUUUGUUUUAGCUCCUCAAUUUCUUCUGUUCUAUCCAACAACUCUGAGUUUAUCUUCUUGUUAACAGAUUGGAGUUGCAGCCUCUCACUCAGAAAAUUCUCCAGCUGCUCUAUGAUGGUUACAAAAUUACUGUAAUCCAGAGGAUCAGGAAGCUUCUCAUUUUCCAGGUUCAUCUCACUUUCAUCUAUAGACCCAUGCAAAACUCUAAUUAGUUUUUGAAGGCUGUCAUACAACUUGCACAGAGUAUCACUAGCCAAUUCAUUCUUUCCAUGCAGAUCAUCACAUUUCUCAUUCACUUCUUUGUAUAAAGUACAAAUAGCCUCACGGUCCAUUUGAGAACUUUGAAGUUUCCCCUUUAGAUCUUCAAUAACACUGACAGCAUCAUAUACAGAAGAAACAAAAUGGCUAAUUGUAUCCAGACAAUCAUGAGAGACUGGUGUAGUUGUGGAACUCUCAAGAGAUUCAUCAAGUUUUCCAAUUGCUUCAACAACCGGAGCAAUAGUGGAAUUCCAAUGCUGCUCAAGUAUCAAAACCCUCUCUGCUGCUUCCUUGUGAAAAUUUUCUAACUGAUCAGAGAUCUGAGAUACCAUGUCAUUUGAACUUGUAUGUAAAUCAUGCAAUCGACUCUGCAAUUGACUAAUUCUUGAUUCAUACCCAUGUAGCUUUCUACCAACUUCCACGUUUUCUGCUUCGAGAUUAGUAACUUGUAGUUGUAAGGACUCACAGAGAACCACAAGUUCGCUAUUCCUUGUUUCAAUGCUGCCCCUAUGUUGUUCUAAAGCUUCAUAUAGGACACCAAGCUCGAUGUUGGUUGCUUCCAGCUUUUUGCUAUGUUCCUCCAAGGCUUCAUACUGAUCCUUCAGCUCCCCAAACGCGGCAUUAGCAGUUUUCCUACCCUCUCGUUCCUCCUUGAGCAGCACACUGGCAUUUGCAGCAUCCAGAUGCAACUGCUCAAAUAAUGCUCUCAAGUUUCCAGUUUGCUCUCUUACUGAUGCAAUUGAAUCUGCAGGUGAUUGAUUGUUAGUUAGACCUCGUUCCUCAACAUCAAGUUCUUCAAGAUGCGCCUUUGACUCGAAGGCUUGAAUCAGUUUUGACACUGGAGGUGCGGAAACUUUACCAUCUGACCUGUUCAAGGAUUCUGAAUGAGAGCAGAUGCCUUCAAUUUCCGGUACAAGUUUAUUCAACAUUUUAUUUGCCUCCUCCAAGCGUCCCUUUAGUGCUACAAACCCGAAGGAAUCAUCAAAGAUUUCACACCCAAGAUUCAGAAAUGGUGAGCCUCCUACACAGCCAUCAGAAAAAGGUUUUUCCACCAUAAUAAAGGAAACUUCACUAUCUUCCUUUCCUGGAACUUGAUGAAAAUUUUCACUUUCGGUUGCAGUUUCAUGACCCCUGCUCUGCACUUCUGAGAGUUCAACUUGAUUCUCAGCUUCCCCAGCUUGAGCUGGUAUUUUGAUUCCAUCCUCAUCAAUCUCUCUCAUCUUGGCUUUAAGUAUGUCCAGACUGCUAGUAAGAAAAAUAUUUUCUUCGGUGAGUUGUUCAAGGCGUGUUGUCGUUUCUUUUAAGUCAAUCACAACCCUCAUAUGUUCUCCAUGUUCUGCAGAUAACCGCUCUUGAAGAACAAGAAGUUCGGAAGAAAGUCUCUCAAUCUCAUGAGCAGAAAACUCCUUCUCUUCCUCGAGCUUCUUUCUCUCCACUGUAACUAAACCAAGACUCACAUUCAAAUUUCCAUUUUCUACCUGCAAAGCCAAUACUAAAUUCUUACUGUCAGCCAAUUCUAUUGCAAGUUUCUCAUUCUCAGAGGAAAGAUGUUCCUUCUCCUCCUCGAGUUUCUUCCUCUCCUCUGUUACUGAACCCAGACUACCACUCAAGUUGGAUAUUUGACCCUGUAGAUCUGCCAUAAAACUUUUGCAAUCAACUAAGUCUGCUGAAAGCUUCUCCUUCUCAUGUAGAUGAAGAUCAUUUUGCUCAACUAGUUUCUUUCUAUCUUCAUCCAUUGAAGCAAAAGUCCCAUGUAAUUUCUCAUUUUCCACCUGUAAGGCUGCCACCAAAGACUUGCAGUCAGCCAACUCUUCUGACAGUCUCGACAUAUCCUGCUGUGACCUUUCCAGGCUGCUAUGCAACUCAAUUGCUCUAGCAGAAAAUUCUUCAGCCUCUGCCUUCACAGUUUGAAAUUGGUUUUGGAGCUCCUCCUUUCCACUAGCAACAUGCUGGAGUUCACAUCUGCACUCUGCAAGCUCUUCAGCAAGGUAUUGGUUCUUCUCACGAACUUCAUUGAGUGAAGCACGAAGAAGAGAUGUUUCAUCAAGCAACUGAUUACGCUGGCAGUCAAACUCCACUUGCAUCUCAGACUGCUGUGCAAACUGCAAGUGAAAGAUAUCUUUUGUGAAAUUUGUGAGAAUCAAUUCUUCUUUAAGUCGCUCAAAUGAUUCCGGAAAUCCAUAUUCUGGCCCAAUCGAAUUGGUAGUCCCUGGAAAUGAGUUAGAAACUGAUUCGAUUGACUUAAGAAGAAUCCGGAACUCUUCUUCAUUAAGCCUCCUAAUUACUUCUGUGAGCUGUGAGAGACUGAUUGAGCUGACAUCUGCAACAGGAGACGCAGUCCAUCCUUUAUCUGGACUCACCACAUUGAUUUGCGGAGGCCUAUCACAGCCAUCCAACAGAUGUUUCUGAUGAAAAUCCUCAGCAACGUCCCUACGUUCUUCCCCACCUUGCUCAGAACCAGAUCCAAAUUGCACCUCUGACUUUUCUUCAAAAUAAGAACCUGGAACAUCUUCUCUUUUCUGCUCGGUUGGCACAACAGCACUAACAAGUAAAGAUCCAUCUGCCUUGGGUAAAGCUGAAGCAGAUACUGUGAGUCCAUCAGACAUGGUUGCUCCAGCUGGCACAGAUGCUUCAUCUGCCUUACCAGUUUGCCCAUCUACAGAGGAAGCUAGGUUGGUGAGAGCUUCAGCAGUUCUAUCAAUCUCAGACAGAGAAAGAAUUUUAUCACCUUCAAGCUUCACUUCUGCCUCACGACUAGGAUCAGAUUGCUUUGUAUCUGAAGCAAAUACUAACAUUCCAUCAGAUGCUUCAUCCACCUUACCAGUUUGCUCAUCUACAGAGGGUGCUUCACCAGAGAAACUUUCAACGCUUCUAUCAAACUCAGAUGAAGAAAACAUGUUAUCUCCUUCAAGCUUCACUUCUGCUUCACGACUAGGAUCAGAUUGCUUUGUAUCUGAAGCAAAUACUAAAAUUCCAUCAGAUGCUUCAUCCACCUUACCAAUUUGCUCAUCUACAGAGGGUGCUUCACCUGAGAAACUUUCAACGCUUCUAUCAAGCUCAGAUGAAGAAAGCAUGUUAUCUCCUUUAAGCUCCACUUCUGCUUCAUGUCUAUGAUUAUAUUUCUUUGCAUCCAAACCAUCAGCUUCCUGCAUUGCCCCUACCCAGCAACAAAUGAGAUUCUAAUUAUACAUCAAACCCAUCAGUUUUCCUAAUCUGCCCAGUUAAUUUCCAGGAGAAUCCCAAAAGACAUAGAGAAUAUACAAAGAAAGUCAAAUAAAAAAAGGAGAAGAGCACAACCUACAUCGGUUACCUGAUCUUCCCUCUGCAGCAUCAACACUGUAUUAAUAUUAUCCUGUGAAGGCAAUGACUCCUCUUCUCUACUCAGACUCUCUGUGUCAACAGUAACACGCAUCCCCGCAGCAACAUCAACUGAAGCAGGUUGCGCUGACACAUCAACUGGUAUAGACAUAUUGGCAUCUUUGGCUUGCCCUCCAGAAUCAACAACAUGUAAUGUGUCCGAAGAAAUAACCCUUGCCACCUCAGCAUCAGCGGUCCCAGUAUUCUCCCCCUCACUCCUGACAGAAAAUUCAACAUCAUGCUUAGUGACCUCCACCUCCUGUGAUGGUGACUCAGCAUUUUGGUCGAUCGGAGUUUCAACUACCCUUGUCUCAUGUGUAAUGGGCAUCACUGAGGGACCAGCAGCAGUCUCAGAAGCAGUAGAUUUCUCCCCAGAAUGUGACCCUGAUGAGUUGAUAUUCAGAUUAGCGUCUACAGGAGACUCAGUUUCUCCUUCAGGGGCCUGAGGCAAUGCUGUAUAUUUAGUGGCACUAGAGACUGCAUCAGCAUCAGCUUCAUUCUGAUCCGAUUGACCAGACUUCUUUGAGGAUUUUCCAUGGCUUCCACUGCCUUUACUAUCUUUCUUCUGACGAUAUUGUUGAAGCUGAUGACAAUUAUACAAGACUAUAUAUUAAAAUCCGAUGGCUCAUUUCCACUCUCUGGUUUGUUCAUGUGACGCUAAAGAAACAAAAAAGAAAAAGAUAGAAAAUACCUAUAGGCACUAUACAAAAAAAUUUCUUUAAACAUAUCUAAAGUAACAAAGAAAAAGGAUACAACACAGACAAGUUAGAAUUUAAUAGGGGUGGCAAAUUAGGGCAUGGAAUACAUGGGAUGCGUCAAAAACCCUAAUGCUCUCUCAUAACCAAGAGCUAUUUGUACCUUUUUUCGUCCGGCAGCGAGCAGAUCGGUACGGCUCUUGUUCUUGUCCAUCCGAUCCACUCCGUUCUUGCCCCCCACUGUGUAUCCGCCCAGAUCACCACGGCCACGUCUCAAUCACCAUUGAAUCCUGCCUAUAAACCAUUAAACACAAUCACCAUUACAUAGAAUAAAUACACGUUUGGUACAGAAAAAUCAAAACUGAAACUCGAAUUUUAUGCUGAUUUCAGAAAAAGAGAAACAUGCCGGCACUGAGCCCAAUACACUUGGUACAUUUUCAUUCAAUUUCCUUUCCGGGCAACCAAACAGGAUAUCAAAACGAAAUCUGAUUCGGAAGAUCCAGAACCUAAUUCACUCACUAACAAUCCCCAAAAACAAACCUAAUCAGACGAAAACAAAACAACGAAAAGGGGCACGAAUCACAGAACACGAAAACGAAAUCGAUUCGUUCGAAAAUUCAAACGAAGAAAGCGUACCUGGAUUUCGCACCAGCUCCAUCUAUUGGGCCGCCGUGGUUAAUAGGAUGGUUUUGGUGCCAAUUGCUUGGGCUCUAAUGAAAGCUUCUAUGGCGCCCUCUGGGUCUCUCUCUCGGCGUCACUGUGUGUAUGCGUUGGUCCCUUCCUUGUCCCCUUGGAUCUAACGCAACCUUCGUUUUUGCUGUGUUAACCUCAUUUGCCUGUAGGUAGCGUAAAAUGUCGAUUUGGAAGGGAAGGGAAUUGAAACGUCGCUGUUUUGGUGAUUGGGUUGGUUGGACUUCGAGCAACUGUUUUCCCUUUGCUAUUGAACCCAAUAAUACGCCUUGGGCCUUCGGUGAAAUGGAUUAUCCAUCUAACCAUCUAACCAAGAAAUAUAUUUAAAAACCCAAUUAUGUUUUUCUUUUAAACAAUUCAUAAUGUUCUGAUAUGACAAAUUUUAUUUUUUUUUCAAAACAAAUAUAUUCUACUCUAAUCUAAAUAAAAUACAGGGAGGGAAAUUCGAGCUCUGAUGCAUAGUGAGGAGCACAUUCGCUCUAACUAAUUUGGCUAAACUCGUGUUUGCUAUGACACGAUGUUUUUUUUGUCAAUGUUAGAAAAUGGAAGGAGGCUUUUCUCACACAUACUCUUAAGGUGCCAAGAAAGUCGAACAAAAAACAAUUGGUCUACAAAUCAAAAUUCUUUUUCACUGCACUAAACCCCGUUCGCUAUUAUAUCUUACAUAAGUCAAAGAUAAAUAAUUUGACUUUUCCAUUAAUGUUUAUAGACUACUUUGGGGAAGUCAAGCCUUAUCGAAUAGUCUUUCUAUGGUAAGUUAGGUAUUUAGAUUGAUGCAUAGGUGGAUCUAUUAAGGAGUUAGAGGGGGUAGGCUCCUUGUUUUAGAGUGGUGUUGGACAGGGUGGGCCAAAAUAUUUGUUCUAUAGCUUCUUUAUCUCCUCCUCAUAAAGAAAUUUUUUUUUUAUCCGUCACUGGGCAAGGAUAUACAAUAAACUAAGGAGACGAAUAUAGUGUGUUUUGAUAAUACUAAAAUAACCAUGAUGAUAAUCAAAUAGCUAAUCCUUUCCGAUCUAACUUUUUUGCAUGAAUGUACUUUAAAAUGUGAAUUGUUUAGAACUUGGUGUUAAGUUAUGGAAUGGUGUGUUACAAUGUAUUUAUAUCACAACUUAAUGUAGUUUCUUUCUUCUUACUAUUUUACUUUGAAUAUGACCUAUAAGGGAAUUUAUACAUACCAACGGGGCAAUUUUAAUCCUGAGGCUGGGCUGACAAGGCCUAACUCUAUUGCUCUUUGAAGUUUAGAGCCAUUCAAUAGGGAGAGUCUUAUAUAUAUAAGGCUCUUAGUUGAAGUUUUAUCUCUUAACCAUUGAAUUAGGCUAAUCAAUUUAAUCAAACAACGAACGAAUUUGAUUCAAUAAUUAAGAUAUAAAAUUUCACGUAAAUGCUAUAUAAAAUGUCAUCACUAUAGAAUUCUUAUGGAGUUUAGGCUGUUUCAGGACCGUUUAGGCCCAUAAGGCCCAGCUCCGGUCACACGUCAUGGCAAAAACAGCAGAGGACGGGGCCGUUUUGUUUAAUAUGCCUAGAAUAAAGCAUAUGGCGUGCUUUUGAUAUUGAAGACCGACUUUCACAAGUGGGGUAAGAUUUGAUGCAAAAUUUUAUUAUGCCGAUCAAGAAAAUUCAACGCCUACCGAGAUUGCCAAGAAAAGAAUAAUAAUAUUUCAAAAGUUGCACGACAAUCAAACUUUAAUUAAUAAAUAAAUGUCCAAUGUGGUGUCAACUAGAAGCUUACAAAUAAUAAUAAUAAUAAUAAUAAUUAAUAACAAAUAUUUAAAAAUAAGAGAGAAGAAACAACUAGGGAUGUCUUGACCAAUAAUAAAAUUAUAUGCAUUGCUAGUUGGAUCCUUUUAAGCACUCCAACCUUUGUUGUGAUAUUAUUAUUAUUUUCAAACUACUUUAUUUGACUUUUUAAAACAUUUUUAAAUUAUGAGGAGAAUAAAAUUAUGGCACUAUUAGAUGUGGGUGCUCUAUCUCUUCGACCGUGAGGAGGAGCAUCAAAUUUUGAAGAUACGAAUUUAUUUCUUUAUCCAUACAAAUGUUUCUAGCGGAGAAUCAAAUCCUAUGCAUAUCAAACAUGGGCAAAAUGUAAUAAUUCUUUUUUGGAGGUGGUCCGGCGCAAAGUCAAACAUCGAUUUGUAUUGAGAUUCAACAAAUUUUUUAGUUAAAAGUUGAAUUAACUCAAGAAUGUGAAUAAAGUAAGUUAAUUUGUGACAAAAAUUAUUCAGUUCUUCUGAUACAUUCCUUGAGUUCUAAAAUGAAUACAAAUGGAGCGAGCACAAUUAUGAGAGUAGAUAAAAAUUGCAUAACUCAUAGAAGUAAAUAUGUGACCAAAAAACUAUUUCGAUAUGUAUUGGGUAAUCAACUAAUUGUUGAUCUUAUAUUAGUUGAUCUUAUAUGAGAUCUCAAGCUUGGCGCCAAAAUUUAUAAACGAAUAAAAAAGGAAGAUUAAUGCAUUUAUUCCCCAAGCAUUAUCCUCUAAUUUGAUACUAGAUUCAUUCACACACAAAUAAUGACCUAAAAACUAUGAUAUGACGAUCAUAAAUAUUACAAAAAUGUAAAUUUAUGUUUACUUUUAAUUAUUUUCCACCGUUAUCCAUUACAUUGCAUCAUAAUUCAAGAAUAAUGAUUAUUAAAUUAUUAUUAUUAUUUUUGCCUGAACCCUUCAUAUAGUAUUACACUUCGUCUAAAAAUAUUAUAUAUAUACUGGAGUGGCAAGGAAAAAUAUAAAUAAUAUUCUUAAUAUUUCUUAACCAAAAAAAUAAAAUUGAUGCAUAGUUUGUAGUAUUUUGCCUCUGCAAUUAUGUGCAUAAUCUUUAAAGGUAGUCAUAGUCAACUAUACGUCUUCAUUUUAACCGUCGGAUAUUUAUAGGAUAAAUCGGACGGUUAAUAUAAGAGAUACCGGCAAGACCCAGCUUCUAUGAAAGGGAAGAAGCUAGUCAAUGGUUUCGGAUUUAAAAAGGAAAAGGAGACUUCCACGUGAUCCCCCACUUCUGGUCAGCUUUACUUUCUCUUCUCCGCCCGAUAAAUUUUUUUCAUAGAACAGUGAUUAAUUAAUCCCAUUCAGCAAAAAAAAAAGGUAAAAUAAAAUUCACAUUUCUCAUUCACAUAGAGGCAUUGAGAAUUGGAUGAACUACUCUUUUCUAAUAUGAAAUCCAUAUAAUUUUUGAUUUCGCAUAUUGGGGAAGUCAUAAAUUAGUAUUAUUCUAAUAUUCAUGUGAAAAGUAGUAAACACGAUAUAAGAGAUCGUAAAUGCUGGUCAUAACAAUGUACAACCUAUUUGAGGAACCACCUAAUUGUAUUACCGAUGUUCCUUUUUGAGAAUUGUAACUUUUAGUUUUUACGAGUAUAUUAAUAAGGGGAUGGAGUGCUCGAAUGAAGGCAAGAUUUAUUUUUGUGCGUGCUAUUGAAAAAGUAAGAUAUUUUAGUAGUCCGACGACUAUACGCCCUAUUUAUUUUAAAGAUACUCUCCUAAUUCUAUAGAACAUAAUCCAAUUUUUGUAUUGUUUCUUUCCUCAUCAUCAAUUCAAUAACACAAUUUAUAGCAAAUACUUAACUAUGCUAGAAGACACUUACACGAGCGUUGAAAUAUGGGUCAAAUAAAUUAUUUUGAGUAAAAUGAGUAUUGUGGGGUGAAGUUUUACCAUUUCAAGUCACGAAAGACACGUUGGUCAUUUUCCAAGGGUCAGGACAAACAAGCAAGCUUCCUUCUUUUGACCUGCACAUUCAUGCGGUCUAAGUUUCUAGUUGGUAAUUAAGAAUAAAUCCAAAAAAUCAAACUAUGUUAAGAUGUGACACGUGAUAUUAAAAUGUCCCAACUUUGCAACACGUUUAGGUUUUUUUUUAUUUACAUUAUUUGUAAAUUAAUUUAUGCUUGCAUAUCUCGUGUUUACAGUUGACAAAAACCAUCAAUCCAUGUCAGAAGACAAUUCAACCCUAACUGUUAUUUUUUCCCCAUUUAUUAGACCAAUUGAAAAUUUUAAAGAAUUACCAAAAAACCCCUACCAUCCAUGCAUUUCGGCCUUUGUCAAAGUCUAUUAGCAUUUUUGCUACGGCAAAUCAGUACUAUACUUACGUCUAAAAGAAAGUAUGUAUCUUUUGACACAUUUAAAGACUCUCAUAAUAUAUAUAUUUUUUUUUCAAGAGUCCAUAAAAUUUAAGUAUGACUUUUUUUCUAGAGACUUUAGACACCAAACUUUUGGAGCACCGAAUUCAUCUUUGGAAUCCCUAACUAUUUGAAUAAAUAUAUAAACCCUUUACGUAUCGGUUCGGUUCCGAUGUGAGGGUGCGUUAGGGCGAGGGAGUUUAAGAGUAUUUUAAAGAAUUUGUUCGGGUUACCUUUGAGUAUAAUAAAAUUUAAAAUAUGAUAUUUAAAGUUUAGCUUCAUUUGUUCGGAUUUCUAAUGAUAAUGAUGAGAUGCAGGUUGUGAAUAAUAACGUUGAAGGCUCUUGGUUUUUUCCUAAAUUUGAAAAUUUAUACAAUAUUUAAGUGAAAUUUAAAAUUACAAUUUAAGAUCUCAAAAUUCCAAUUUUUUUAAUAAAAAUUUUCACAGUGAAUUAUUAAAUUUAUUUUCAAAUAAUAAAAAGUGUUGCAUUCAAUAUUUAAUCUUAAUUUGUCCAUCAAAUAAAACCGUCUAAAAGAAAUAAACUUUUAUAACCAAACAAAACUCACAAGUCAUAACACAGUCUCACAGCCAAACAGUACAGUCCAAAACCAAACCCCCUCCUACUUUUUUUACUCGUUCCUCUUCCCUCCUCCUUAUGGUCCAGUCAACCUUCUUAUUUGUUUUCUUCUCCUCAUCACGAGAAAAUAUAAUACUACCAGUUUAUAGUUGUCCCACACUGACAUUUCCUCCAACCGUGGGACCCACCACCUUCAAGUAUAGAAAAAACUUAUUUAUAUCAUCAGUCAUCCCAAUAGAAAUCUUCAAACCCAUCUCAGCCGUCCGAUCAAAUUUCCCACUUUGACUUCCCAUCCCUUUAUAUCUUCCCACACCCCCACCACCACACAAUCCCCAAAAACCUCUUCUUCCUCAACACACCCAAAACAACUCCCCAUCUUCUCAAAUCUUCCAUGGCCAUUUGAGCUCCGCUUGAGAUCUUAACCUCGUCUGCGUUUCUUACAGUUCAAAAAUGGCGGUGGAGCUGAUGAACUUUUCGAAGAUGGAAGAUCAGAAGGCUAUACAGGAAGCUGCAUCGCAAGGCUUGAAGAGCAUGGAGCACCUGAUCCGCUUUCUAUCGCACCAGCAGCAAACUAACCAGUCGUCUCGCUUGGACUGUACAGACAUCACCGACCACACCGUCUCCAAGUUCAAAAAGGUCAUUUCGCUCCUGAACCGGACCGGCCACGCCCGGUUCAGGCGCGGACCUGUUCAACCGGAUCCACCGGUUCAGUUCCCCUCUUCUUCUUCUCAUCCCUCGUAUUUACAAACAUUGAGCUUGGCUCCGGCUCUGAAUCCGAGGCCCUCUCCGGCGCCGGCUCCGGUCACUACACCAGCGAUCGUCCCGCCGGCCCCGAUCGAGUCGAGCUAUGUCCAAUCUCAGCCGCACAGCAUGACGCUAGAUUUCACGAGGCCUAAUGUCUUCGCAUCAAAUCCUAAGAGCACGGAGAUCGAGUUCGCGAAGGACAGCUUCAGCGUCUCGUCGAGCUCGUCGUUCAUGUCGUCGGCGAUCACUGGAGACGGCAGCGUUUCGAACGGCAAACAAGGAUCGUCGAUCUUCCUGGCAACAGCGCCGGCCGUCUCCGGCGCAAAGCCUCCGCUCUCCACGGCGCCGAUUAAGAAGAGGUGCCACGAGCACGACCACCACUCCGACGACGCGUCGUGCAAGUAUUCCGGCUCGGGUUCUGCUUCUGGCUCCGGCAAGUGCCAUUGCUCCAAGAGAAGGUAUGCGUGCUUCACCGUCUGCGCAUUUUAGUCUGCUGUUAAUUGUUAAGCUAAAAUACGCAUGCACUGUUACUGAGACGAUAGAGUUGGUUUUUCCAAAGAUUUGCAAAUGAAAUUUUAGUUGAUUAUCCGGGGAAGCGAGUUGACUCGGACGAUUUCAACUCGGCUAUAAUCUGGUGGAUCCAUCCGAGUUUCGGGUCAACUAGUUUGGUUGCUGGGGCAUUAAUGGGCGCAGCACUCGUUGGAGUACGAUGACAUGAUAAGAUGCGCCUUUUUCUAAAUGGCGCAUCUUAGCGAAAAUAUUUUUUUGUCUUUUUUCGCGCGCGAGGGAAAAAUACUUGGUUAUUUAAGUUUGACCGACGACCUUUUUCUUUUUUAGAAAAUAAAUUAAUUAUUAUUUUCUUUCUAUAAUUCAGGAAAAAUCGGGUGAAGAAAACCAUUCGGGUCCCAGCGAUUAGUUCAAAAAUCGCCGAUAUUCCACCGGACGAGUACUCGUGGAGGAAGUACGGUCAAAAGCCCAUCAAGGGCUCACCCUACCCAAGGUAUUGAAUUUAAAUCUGUGCCCUUCAUUCAUUAUACAAAGGAGCAAAAUAAUCAGAAUUUAGCAUGAUCUGACGGUCUGGAUUGAGUCUAAUUUUGGACAAAUGUUUUUUGUUAUCAGGGGAUAUUACAAGUGCAGUACGGUUAGGGGGUGCCCAGCAAGGAAACACGUGGAGCGAGCCCCGGAUGAUCCGGCGAUGCUGAUCGUAACGUACGAAGGGGAACACCGUCAUGCGCCUGAAAACGUGGGGUUGGUGUUCGAGUCAACGUGAGGGAAAGUGGGUGGAGAAAGCGAUUGUGGGUGUGGGUUUGAUGUAAAUUUUUAUUUUUUUAGUUGAAUUAAUUAGUAGGAUAAUGGGGGGAAUAGAGAGGAGGAAUCUCAAAUCUGUCGAAGCGGUGUUUAGUUUAAUUAAUUAAAUUGUACUUAUUUAAAAAUUAAUUAAUUUUUAUUGCAUUUGGUUGGGGGGAAUAUUUAUUUAAAUUGGUUUUGGGAAGAUUUAUCUUCGUAUGGCAGACUGCCACACACUUGAGUUCAUGAUUGUUUAUAGGUUAAAGAGAGCAUCCCAUGACAAAAAAAGUCAAAAAAUUGAUUCGAAAUUGUGGAGGGAAUCAUGAUGUCUUAAGAGAUAAAAAUGAGGAGGGAGUCAAAUUCAAUUGCUUUAAGUUGGUAUUUGUAUUAAAAGUCAACAGCUCCCCUACCUUCCAAUGAAUUUUAAAAACGUAGUAGUGGAAGGGCGCUAAGACAUUGGACUUUGGAGGCAACGACUUAACCAUCACAAGAAUUAGAGGAGAAAUUUAUGAUGGUAGGUAUCUAUAAUCUAUCCAUGGCGAAUGAUCUUGUAGUUAGAAACCCUAGCAUUGUGCCUCCUCCAUAUGAUCCUCCAUCUCUUUUUUAUGUACUUGGGAGAAAAGACAAAUUCAAUUAAACAACCAGAAAACAUGACAGACCAACCGAAUCUCGAAUGUCACUACGGGCGGUUUGGUUCUGUUUGUUAAACCAUGUACUUAGUUUCUUCUUCUAUGUAACUCAGCUAAACCAAUUAGGUGUGAAUUAAACGAUUUUCGCAAUUUAUUUGGUUUUUCGCCCUUGAAGAGUAUAUGCCUCCUAUCGUGCUUUCCUCCCUGCCCUCCUACUUAAGAAUCCAAAGAUUACUUCUCUCCUAACUAGCGGGAAAAUGACUUACUUGAAUGGGGAGCUAUCCUAUAACACUAACAAGCGGGGUCAGAGAAGGAUAACCUCUCCCCUAAGAGCAGUUCCAGCAACAGCCCUUUGCCAGGGCAUGACGGAGCCCAAGUGAGGUUUUGGAGUUCCAGUGGGCCUAAGUUGCCAGGGCAGCAGCUGGGUCUAAGCAAACCAAGCCAGCCCAAAGACAAAAAUAGCAUGGGCUGUUGCCUGAGUUUGCUGACGUCAGCAACAACAAAAAUACUAAAAAUUUCAGAAUUUUAAAAAAAUAAAUACUUAGUCAUAUUCUUCACUUCCCACACCAAAACUCUAUACAAAUUUCUCUCAUCAUAUCUUAUGUGAAUAGUGGUUGCCAUGACAAUGAGUAGAAACACCACAAGCUUUUUACAAGGACUGCCACUAUUCACGUGAAUAGCAACAGCCCUUGCCUUGCCCUUACCCUUACCCUUUACAAUGACAAAUAGGUGAAAGUGCUUUAACGUAGGGGUAUUGUAGUGACCUUGCUUUUUGAGGUCAAGUUCACAACCCUGAUUUCAUUUGGCAUAGCUUCUUGAAUUGAACUCUAUGAAAUGGUACCUUGCUUUUUUGAGGUCAAGUUUAAUUUCAUUUGACACAGCUGCUUGAACUCUAUGUGAUGGGUAGCGUCAAGGGAGGAGUGGGCUCUAGAAUUUGAAUAAAAUACUAGCUUAUCUAUUUUUUCAAUUAUCAAAUACUCACUAAAUAAUGAGAGUUCAAGGAGGCUAUAAUGAGGUUUAAAAGUGAAGAGUUCUUUAAUCUAGUGCAUAAUUAUUAUUGGGCUAUUGAAUUGAACCCCUCACUUUUACCCCCUCAUUGUAGAAGCUUUCAAGAGAGUUACAGUGCAUUUGGAUGAGAGAGAUCAACUUGGGAUUUUGACAAAAGUCAGAAAAUCUAAAAAAACCAAUUCGAGUGUCUGGAUAAAUAAAAAAAAACAUAGAAAAUUAAAAAUUUCGCGUGGAAAAAAAUAUGGAAUUUGGAGGUCAUAAAUCUCAACUUAUAAUUCUAUCUAAAAGUCGUUAUUUUUAAAAUUCCAAGAGAGAUUGAGUUUAAAAAAAAGAUAACUUUACAAAUAAAGGUUAAAUUCUGUAUUUUAAAUACGUUACCCAAACAAGAAACUUUACAAAUUCCUAUACUUUUAAAUUUCCUCGUCCAAGCUCACUGUUAGUGUCUUUUUUAUGUAUGCGUGCGUGUGGGGUUGAAUUGGAAAUAAUGGGCGUAAGAAUAGCAUGAAACUUGUUAAUGAAGCUGGGUCACGCUCAUGGUGCUGGACCAGGUCUUUGCGUUUGACAAGUGUUUGGGCCUUGAUUUAGUCAAAUACACGUUAGCAUGAGAAAAUACUCCAGGAAAUGAAAUGAAACCACAAAAUCAUCAUAAGACCAAGACCCAAAAAUUAGGACCAGGUCUUUGCGUUUGACAAGGAAGGCUUGAACUCGACGUCUCUGUAAGUUUCCGUGUGGGCCAGAAGCAGAAGAGAAGAAGGAAAAUGAACCUCCUACCAAAACAGAGAGUUGUCUGGGGAUGGUGUCCUUUGUCUCCACAGUGGUAUACUCUUCAUUCAGAGAAGUAGGCGGGGAAUGACGUCAAGCUCGCCGUAUGUAUCAGAGGGUGCCGCAGGUGGGGUGGGGUGGGGUGGUGACUUAGGUCACGGUAUUGCUGGUUUGUUAUUUUUUCAAUUUUUUAUAAUCAUUUCAAUUUUACUACACCCUAAGAAACCUAAAAUUAACCCUAAAAUUAACUAUGAUCUAAGUACACCCUAACAUUUAAAUCAAAAUGUAAAAUUAACAAAGUACACUCUAUUUAACUACCAAAAAUACCCUUAAUACACCAUAAUACACUAAUAUCACAUCUAAUUUGCCACGUCAUAUUUUAAUUUCUUCUAAAGCUUUUGUUCUUCACAUUUUUUUUAAUGGAACUUUUGUUCUUCACAUUAAAAUGUGUCAAUUUGAACAAUUUUGGGUUUUUAUUUGUUUGAUUAGGGUUGGAUAUGGUGAGUAGGGUGUCCUUAUUAAAAUUAUAUUUAUUUCACAAUUCAAUAUAUCUUUUUUGAUCAUUUUAUAUUAGAGUAAAUUAGUAAUUCAAUAAAUAGUUUGGUAAUAUGGUACACUCAGUUAAUUUUAGGGUUCAUUUAGCAGCACUCUUUUUAAUUUAUAUUUUUGGUGAUAAAGUAUAGACAAAAAAGAGGGAGAUUGGAAGUGAAAAUGAGAAUGGAGAUGAGAUUGAGAAAGAAGAUGAGAGGAGAUGAUGGGAGGAAGGAGUAACAAAAGUGAAAAUAAAAACUAAAAAAACUGAAAUCUAUUUCAAAUUGUUUUUACUUUUGUUACUUCUCCCUCUCAUUCUCUCUCUCUCUCAAUCUCAUUUUCUCUCUUAUUCUCACUCUCAUUUUCCUUUAUACUCCAACACAAAAAAUUAAAAUAAAAAUAGUUAUCAAACGGAACCUUAAAAAAUCAAAUUACGUGGACUUGAAAAGUGAAGCCUAUGCCUUAAAUGUUCUUCUUCCUAGUAACUACUAAAUACACAACCAAGAACCAUCAUGCUGAAAAAAAAAUAACAACAGUCUUAGGCAGCAAGUGGACCAUUGACUUUAAACUUCCUAUAAUUUAGCUUUCCAUGCCCCAAAUUGAACUCAAGUAAGCAAUUUCACAACCCAUCUCUCAAAUUGAACAAAACAUAAUUUCACUGGCUUUACAGUGGAGAAGGUGGCUUAACAAGAAUCGAUCAUCCCCAGUUCGACGGCAUACUCAUUAUCCAUCGUCGACACAUAACUGGAGGUAAUUCUUCAGAAUAUAUUUUGUAACACGCAGGGCCAUCCCUGAGAUUUUGAGGGCCCUGUGCGAAACUUAAAUUGGGGCAUCGCAUAAUCUAAUACGAAAAUACUAUAAAAAUUUGCCAUAACUUAAUGUCAUAAACAAUUUUUUUUUAUAACUAAAAUUCACCAUCAAUAAAUAUGCAAUGACAAUCAGAAAUCAAAUUCAUAAAAAUUUAAAUAUUUUCAUCAAUUGUAGCAUGUGAUUCUCUAACAAUGAAUCUAUCAAGAGCUCCUCUUUGAGAUUGAGUCAAUUCCUCGAUUUUUCUUUUUCUAAGCCGUUUUGUAUAUCCAUAAACGUAUUUUCUAGUAGGUGGCAUGUUUAGAUUACAAAGAAAAAUUCCAAAACCCUAUAACCUGGAAGAAAACCCCAACAAGAAAUAGAUAAAUAUUUCUACAAACUAUAUUCUCAUACAACCAAUCAUCAACAUGAUAAUAAUUUAAUAAAAUAAGUCAUGUAAUAUAUAGAACGACAUCAAGGAGCAUUGAACUCGGGCCCUUUUGCCAAAGAGAGAUGGCCUCCAUCCAACUCUCCUAAACACGCUAUUGUGCAAAUAUCCAAACGCUAUACUAUAUAUACGAUUCAUAUGAUAUUAAUAUAUAUAUAAUAUAAAUAAUUUUCGGGGGCCCUGUGCGGUGGCGCCACUUGCACCACCCCAGGGCCGCCCCUGGUAACACGUAUUAAUUAUAUUUUAACUAGACAGACAACACACGUCACGUUUUAGAGAAAACUUAAAUUCAAGUUUUUCUGUGACUUAUUGAUCCCCCAGAAUGAAGGUUUUGGUUGUGAGAUUAUUGAUCAUAGUAUGCACACUUUUCAAUGCAUUUGUCUGCUGCUGGAGCUUUAUGCAUUCGGACCGUUCCGAAUCCAUGGAGUCCCAUAGGUUGGGACUAUUGGAAGGAAAUGAGAGGGAUAGGGUUUCAUUGCUGGCCGUCAAAGCUCAAAUAAAGGAAGACCCUCAUCAUGUCUUGAGUUCAUGGAAUGAAUCCAUCCACUUUUGCAUGUGGCAUGGCGUUACCUGCAGCAAAAGGCAUCAUCAAAGGGUCACUGUGCUCAACUUAGGGUCCCAAAACUUGGUGGGCUCCAUAUCCCCACACAUUGGAAACCUAAGCUUCCUAAGGGAACUUCUCCUCCAAGGCAACAGCUUUCGCCAACAAAUCCCUGCUGAAAUUGGGCGUUUGCAUAGGCUGCAAGUAUUAUCUCUACACAACAACUCACUCAGUGGCCCUAUCCCUACCAACAUUUCCAAUUGCUUCAAUCUCAACUUUAUUCGUUUUGGUCGCAACAGCUUAGUGGGUAAAAUUCCUUCACAGCUGGGCGCCUUGUCCAGGCUUCGAAUGUUUGUUUUAGAGUUCAUUAAUUUAACAGGAGAGAUCCCUCCUUCCUUGGGAAACCUUUCAUCUCUUGAGAGGCUUGCUGCAAUUAGCAAUAACUUGUUGGGAAGCAUACCUAGUUCUUUAGGCAGAUUGAAAAAUUUAACAUUUUUGGCAUUGGAUUUGAAUAGAUUGUCUGGCACCAUCCCUCCCUCGAUCUUUAACCUCUCUGCUCUUACUACUUUUUCUGUCUCAAUAAACCAAAUUCAAGGGAGUCUUCCCUCAGACUUGGGAAUAACUCUUCCUAAUCUCCAAAACUUUCACUGUUUUACGAACCGAUUUACCGGACCAAUUCCUCUGUCAAUAUCCAAUGCCACACAUUUAGCCAGAUUUAUUGUUGCAGAGAACAAAUUAUCUGGGCAAGUGCCGAGUUUGUGAAACCUUCAUAAGCUUCAACACUUCAGUAUUAACCAAAAUUAUCUUGGAAGUGGUACUUAUGGUGACUUGAGCUUCAUCUCAGACUUGACCAAUGCCACAAAGUUAGGGCGGUUGUAUUUAGACCUUAACAAUUUUGGUGGCACUCUGCCACCAUCAAUAUCCAAUCUCACAACAGAGCUUACAAGGCUGUGGUUCCAAGAAAACCAACUACAUGGAAACAUCCCAGUUGGGAUUGGGAACCUGAUCAACUUGGAAAUAUUGAAUUUGGGAAAUAAUCACUUCACAGGUAGCAUCCCCAGGGACAUUGGAAAGUUAUCAAGUCUAGGGCUGUUGAGUCUUCGACACAACAAAUUAUCAGGGAGCAUCCCAUCCUCUCUAGGAAAUUUAACCAUGCUAACCUAUCUCCAAUUGCAAGAAAACAACCUUCAAGGCAACAUCCCUUCAAGCCUAGGGCAAUGCCUCAGGCUGCUGCGAUUGAAUCUUUCCCAAAAUAACCUUGACGGUGCAAUACCUCGCCAAGUUUUUGGCCUCCCCUCCUUAUCCAUUUCUCUAGACUUGUCCAGAAACCACAUGACUGGUUCCCUUCCUGUGGAGAUUGGAAAGCUAAAGAGCCUAGGUGUACUGGAUGUUUCUGAUAACAUGCUAUAUGGAGAGCUUCCCAGUAACCUUGGUAGUUGUUUGGGUUUAGAAGUCCUACACUUGCAGGGCAACUUCUUCAAUGGGACAAUUCCUUCAUCUAUGGCUUCAUUGAGAGGGAUUCAAGAUUUAGACCUUUCUCGCAACAAUUUUUCUGGCGAAAUUCCUAGGUUUUUAGAGGGCUUUGACUUCUUGAAGAAUAUGAACUUAUCUUUCAAUGAACUUUGGGGAGCAGUUCCAACUGAAGGUGUUUUUAAAAAUGCUAGUGCAACUUCUGUUAUUGGAAACAUCGGGCUCUGCGGCAGUGUUGCUAGUCUCCGGCUGCCCAACUGCAGCUCCAAAGAGUCCAAGGGAAGAAGAAGACUGCCUCCUAGAUUGAAAUUAAUAAUUUCCAUAGUCUCUGCCUUUCUAGGAAUAGCUCUGGUUUUUGUCCCUUUAUAUCUCUGCUUGCUAAGAAAGAAAGGAAAAAAAACUGCAUCAUCAAGCGCCAACCUGGCAAACUCUAUCUGCAAGUCUCAUAUACUACUCUUCUAAAAGCUACUGAUGGGUUCUCUUCAGAUAAUUUGAUUGGUUCUGGUAGCUUUGGAUCUGUGUACAAAGGAGUUCUUGAUGAUCCUGAUAGGUCACCUCAACUUGUUGCCAUUAAAGUUUUUAAUCUGUCACGCCAAGGAGCUUCUAAGAGCUUCCUAGCUGAAUGUGAGGCGCUAAGAAAUAUCAGGCAUCGAAAUCUUGCCAAGAUUAUAACCGCGUGUUCCAAGUGUUGAUUUUCGCGGUAAUGAUUUCAAGGCUCUUGUUUACGAGUUCAUGGAAAACGGAAGCUUAGAGGAGUGGCUGCAUCCAACUUCACCCAAGAAUUUGAGUCUUGUUCAGAGGCUGGACAUUGUCAUGGAUGUUGCUUGUGCUUUGGAUUAUCUUCAUAAUCAUUGUGAGACACAAAUAGUUCAUUGUGACCUCAAGCCAAGCAAUGUUCUUUUGGACAAGGAACUGACUGGCCAUGUUUCUGACUUUGGACUAGCAAAAUUUCUCUCGAAACUAACCAGCAAUGUGUCAGAAAAUCAUCAAACUAGUUCCAUUGGGGUAAGAGGAUCAGUUGGCUAUGCAGCUCCAGGUAAAUACUCUCUCAUCCCUUAUGCUUCACAAUUUCCUCAUCCUAUUUUUUACUCUCAAACAAUUCAAAGACAGCUAUGUUUUUAUCUACAAUUGUGUUGAUACAAGUUUUGAUGUUUGAAUUGUAGAGUAUGGCAUGGGAAGUGAGGUGUCAACUUAUGGGGAUGCCUAUAGCUUUGGCAUUCUCUUGUUAGAGAUGUUCACAGGGAAGAGACCUACUGACGACAUGUUUAGUGGUGGCUUCAACCUUCAUAAUUUCGCGAAGAUGGCUUUCCUAGAUCGGCGAGUUACAGAGGUUGCUGAUUCACUGCUUCUUCAAGAUGGUACCAGUGACAGCAUCGUGAUACCUCGGAAAAUCAAAGAAUGCUUGAGUUCGAUAUUCGGAAUUGGGAUUGCGUGUUCUGCUGAAUCCCCAGCAGACCGAAAGGAUAUUGGUGCUGUUGCAUAUGAGUUGCACUCCAUUAGGGACAAGCUUCUUGUGUAGAAGCUUUUGCUACUCUACUUUUAUUUUCCAGUUUUUAUGUGCUACAUGCGUGUACUUUAUGCUGCUAUAUUGCAUGAGGAAAUUUGCAAGUAAAUAAUCAGCAAUGAGAUGUUAGUGCAAUGGAGUGGGAGCCAUUUUGGGGUCAUAUGUUGAAGCCAUUUUUCAUAGCUGCCACCAAUAACCGAGUUGACGAAACCAAAAUUUCAAUUCAAGAAAGGAACAUUUUGAUUUAUGAUGAAUGGCUGCCAAAGAAACCAUUGGAGUUUAUCAUGUUGGUCCUAAUUACUUUUGGUGUUUUUGCAAAUGUAGUUGGGUGGGUGUCCAUAGAAGAUUUCACUUGGUAGAUUCGAAUAAGGGUGUCCAGAGAAAGUAGGUUGUGAGGUAGGGCCAGAAUAUUCCCCAUCAAAGCUUGUGAGGUGUUUUUCAAAAUGAAAGUGAUUCUUGACGCUGGUCACUGGUGGAGAGUUUUGUUGCCUGCUAUUCAUGGGGUCAAGCUGCUUUUACAUUCAUCUCUCUCUCUCUCUCUCUCUCUCUCUCUCUCUCUCUCUCUCUCUCUCUCUCUCUGUUGGGAAUUUUCUAUAAUUAUUUGUCGCAUAAAUUGUUUAUUUUUAAUAUACUUUUAUAUAUAAAUUAUUUAGAUGGUUUGACAAUCUUGCACAAGCAAGAAGAGGCACAAAAUGAGACAGUGCAAUCAUAAUUAGUAGGCCAGCUAACAGAUCUGGAAAUUCAUAACCAAGUUGGCAAUUUCCAAACCAUCCUCUCCUUUAUUUCACCUGCACGGUAGUUUAUUUCCAUGUGUGGUCCCAUGAAUGGAGACUAUACACAUUAUUUUAGUUGAGAAGACAACAUUUAUAGCUGAGAAGCCCGAGUUACAUGUAUCACUUUUAUCGAUCAUAAUUUUUACAAAAUUAAGUAUAUAUUCUUGACAAGAAUAUUGAAUAGUUUAUUUUUCUGUAUUUACUGGCACACAUACCCAAAAAAAAUUAUUUAUCAAAAAGUGGAAUAUUCUCUCUCAAUUAUGAAUUUAAUAUUUAUACCAUCUACUGUACUUUGCACUGGUAGAGUUAAAAAGCAACCAUUGAUUGAAAGUCGUUGAAGAGGAUCAUUUGAAAGUUUCAAAGAAUGUGAUCACAUGAAAAAAGAAAAGACUUGUUCUAGUCAUAGUUUUGUGAAGUGAGGACAAAUUUCCCAAUUUCCAACUUCUCUUGCCCAAACCCACCCAUGUAAAACAAACUUAUUUUUUUCAUUACAUCAAUUUAAGACUUUAUUUUUAUUUUUAUUUUUUUUCAGUGACAUGACAGCCUCUUUCAUAAUUUCAUUUCAUCCUUUCCCGACCCUACCCAUAUAGCCUACCCUCAUAAUGAAGUAAAAAAUUAAUGAUUUCUUAAAUCAUGUAGAAUUUAGCUUUUGAAUGAGUUGAUGCAGCUGACCAAAAAAAAAAAAAAAAAAGAAUGAGUUGAUGCAGUCAGAUUCUACUUGUGUGCCAAAAGGGUUUUCAAACUUAACAGAGUGGAGAAGAAGAGGAGGAGGCUGAGAAGGAAAGGUAAAGAAAAGUCAUAAAAAGCAAAGCAAACAAAACAAAACAAAACAAAACAAAACAAAAACAAAAAUAGAGUUUUGGCUGGCAGCAAGAGAAAAUAAGAGAGAGAGAGAGAGAGGGGCUAAAACGAGUUUAAGAACAAAGCAAGGGAGAAGGGUUUGCGGUUUUGCCUUACUGUCAUGCACUUUGGCACCACUCUCGUCGGACAUUGCGAAAAAUAGAACUCUGCAAAAGCGCGCUCUAUCUUCCCAUCACUCUCACAUUACUUUCACGAUUAGGGUUUCUCUCUCUCCUUCUUCCGUUUCUCUCUGUGUGUGAAUCUCUGAAUACCGGGUUCAGAAUCUGAUUCAGCUUGGCCGGGUGAACUGGAUCUCUCUUUUGCUUCAAGUGAGUCCUUCUUAUUCAUUCCUUGUAUUUCUUAACUCUCAAGAAAAUCUGGGUUGCUUUCCUUUCGUUUGCUUGUUGUGGGUUGAGUGAGAUUUAUGCUGUUUCUUAGCGUGUCGGUUUUGUUUUGUGAGGACCCAGAUGAGGUUUUGUGCUUGUACUUGUGUCCUGAUUGAUCUUCGAUGAUUUCUAGAGAGAUGAAGAAAAUUUCACUUCAGAAAAAGGAAUAUAAGAAAAGCCCAAUUUUGAAUUUUUUGUAUUUAGCUGCUUGAAGUUGCUCCUUUUCUUUUUGCUCCCAAUUUGAGUGAGACUUGGAGUUUCAAAGAUUUUGAUUUUGGGGUUUUGUUUGUUUUUAAUUAGGAUUUGAAUGGCGAAUUCGGUGAAUGAUAAGAGCAUUGAGAGUUUGAUAUCUGCAAGCAAGUCAUUGAGGCUAAGUUUACAGAAAUCACAGGGCCUGGGGUCGGCUCUAGAGAAAGCAGGAAACAGAUUUGAAGAGAUUAACCAGAGAUUACCCUCUCUUGAAGCUGCGGUUCGACCCAUUCGUGCAGACAAGGAAGCCCUCGCCGCUGUUGGUGGCCAUAUCAACCGUGCUGUUGGCCCUGCUGCAUCUGUGCUUAAAGUUUUUGAUGCUGUUCAUGGACUCGAGAAAUCGCUAUUGUCAGAUCCGCGUAGUGAUCUUCCGGGGUACCUAUCGUUGUUGAAACGCCUGGAAGAGGCUCUGAGGUUUCUGGGUGACAACUGUGGAUUGGCAAUUCAGUGGUUGGAGGAUAUAGUAGAGUACUUGGAGGAUAAUGCGGUUGCGGAUGAUAGGUACCUUUCAAAUCUGAAGAAAUCAUUGAAAGGUCUCCGAGAAUUGCAAGAUGGUGAGGGAAAGGCCAACCUCGAUGGUGGGCUUUUGGAGGCUGCGUUGGAAAAAUUAGAAAAUGAGUUCCGGAGACUCCUAAUGGAACACAGUGUGCCGCUUCCAAUGUCGUCAUCAUCUUCACUUGGAGAACAAGCUUGCAUUGCUCCAUCACCCUUACCUGUUCUGGUAAUCCAGAAGUUGCAAGCUAUUAUUGGAAGAUCGAUUGCUAAUAAUAGACUUGAGAAGUUUAUAUCCAUUUACAUUGAAGUUCGAAGUUCAAAUGUGAGGGCAAGUUUACAAGCUCUCAAUUUGGAUUACCUUGAGAUAUCAAUUGCAGAGUUUAAUGAUGUCCAAAGCAUAGAGGGCUAUAUAGCACAGUGGGGAAAGCAUUUGGAGUUUGCAGUGAAACACUUGUUUGAGGCGGAGUACAAGCUGUGCAAUGAUGUUUUUGAGAGGAUUGGAUUGGAUGUGUGGAUGGGUUGCUUUGCAAAGAUAGCUGCUCAGGCUGGUAUUCUUGCAUUUCUACAAUUUGGGAAAACUGUUACAGAGAGCAAAAAAGAUCCGAUAAAGCUUUUGAAGUUGUUGGAUAUUUUCGCAUCUUUGAACAAAUUGAGACUGGACUUCAACCGGCUUUUUGGAGGAGCAGCAUGUAUUGAAAUCCAAAAUCUGACAAGGGAUCUCAUUAAGAGUGUAAUUGAUGGAGCCGCUGAAAUUUUCUGGGAGCUUCUUCUUCAGGUGCAGUUACAAAGGCAGAACCCUCCCCCUCCAGAUGGGAGUGUUCCGAAAUUGGUUAGCUUCAUUACUGAUUAUUGUAAUAAACUGCUUGGGGAUGAUUAUAAGCCACUAUUAACUCAGGUUCUGAUCAUUGACCGAAGUUGGAAGCAUGAGAAGUUUCAAGAAAAGCUCCUUAUUAAUGAGGUUUUGGAAAUUAUUAAAGCCAUUGAGAUAAAUUUGGAGACAUGGAUAAAGGCUUAUGAGGAUGCCUCUUUGUCCAACCUUUUUGCAAUGAACAAUCAUUGGCAUUUGUACAGGCACCUGAAGGGAACUAAGUUGGGGGUUCUGCUGGGGGAUGCCUGGUUAAAAGAACAUGAACAGUACAAGGACUAUUAUGCCACAGUGUUUUUGAGAGAUAGCUGGGGGAAGCUUCCUGGUCAUUUGAGUAGGGAGGGUCUGAUUCUGUUCUCAGGUGGUCGUGCCACCGCCCGUGAUCUUGUCAAAAAGAGGCUAAAAACCUUCAAUGAAGCCUUUGAUGACAUGUAUAAGAGGCAAUCAAAUUGGAUUGUGUCAGAUAAAGAUCUAAGAGAGAAGACAUGCCACCUCAUAGUGCAGGCGGUUGUGCCUGUUUACAGAAGCUACAUGCAGAACUAUGGGCCCUUGGUUGAGCAAGAUGCAAGUUCAAGCAAGUAUGCCAAGUAUUCAGUACAGACUUUGGAGAAAAUGCUCUUGUCUCUCUUUCAGCCAAAGCCUGUUAGAUACGGCAGUUUCAAAGGUAGGCAAACUAGUGGGAAAUUUAACAAUGGAGUAACAGAUCUUCGCCGUACUACCUCUGCGGUUGUGUGAUUGUCAAACUAUGUGCGUUGUGGAAUCACAGGACAGGACUAUCAUGGUUAGCCUUCCACCUUGUAUAUACUGACGUUCUCAGGGUCCUGGAGCUAAAUACUGCUAUCCCAUUGCCUGAGAUUCUAAGAUAUGGAAUUUUUGUAACUCAUCUGAAUGUGAUGAAGAGUUGAACACUGUCUCCACUGCCCAGUGGGUUCUAGGCCAUGAUGAUGAACAAAUAUACAACCCCGUUGGAUCCCCGCGUAGAUAAUAUAUUCAGGUAUAGCUAUCCGUUUUUCUUUCAUCUCAGACUCAUUAAAUCAGUAAUUAGGUUAGGCAGCAGGACAAACCUUAAUACACCUUUGCUAGGUUCAAUGUACAAUUCUUUGAGAUAAAGUGCAUCAAAGUGGUCUAGUUGUGAUUGAUUUUGUAACUUAUCAGAACAUGGGGAAGCUUAAAAUUUAAGGACCUUCAUGAGAUGCUUGUUUUGUGCUAUGAAAUGGCAUUGUUGAGAACUUCAAAAUGUACUACAGCCAUGUGCUAUUGGAAUUCUGUUGACAAUAAAGUAUCUACUCGUUUUAAUGGAAUUGUUUACUUUAAGCUUUUAGUAUUUUGUUGCUGGUGAUUCUCCUUUUGUUUCUCUUUUCUGCUUGUCCUCGGUGUAUGUGUUUAUCCUUGUUAGACUUGCUUGGUAAGACAUGAAUUGGUAUGUUAUUCCUUUCUCAAAAAGCCUGUUUUUCCUUUUUUGAUAAGAAAUGAUUCCAAUUGUUCAAAACCUUCUGGGCCGGCUAUGUUGUAACAGAAAAGAAAAAGAAACCUUUUUGUUGUUUGGGUCAAGAAUUAAACAUAGGAAUACUGAAAUGUUCUUAGAACAAACCUUAUAAAAUAUUUCCCAUCUAAAAACCCAAACAGUUUUUUUUCUUUUUCUGCACAACAGUUUCUUAUCUACCAAACGGAGCCAAACCAAAAUUAUACAUGGGAAGUGUUAAUGGAUUAGGAAGCCAGCCAAAGGGCUUUCAAAGGUGCUAAAUUAUAAUUCUAGCAAUGGAGACUUUUGAGUCACUUCUAUUAAUGACCAAGGGGUGGUUGUCGUCUUAGUUGAUGGUAUUUCUAUCUUUCUCUAAUCUCUUGUCAACAUGACUAAUCACCGAAACUUCGCUCGAUGAGAAAAGGAAGGUAAACUAUUAACUAUACGCUAAUCCGAUAUUAGUGAUGUUUCUUUCUUUAGAAUCAAUCAAAGUCUCCCCUAAAAUCAGAUUUAAUCAAAUCCAGAAAGUUGCAGCGUGGAUGCUUAAGCAAUUUCUCUUUAAAGUAUAAACUAUUAUUAUCACCAUAUAUACAAAGCUCCUAACUUCCCAGGUCCUUCUAAAUCUGGUCCUCCUACCAAAAUCUUCUAAAUUUAUCUCCAUAUAUUUUGUGGUGAACACGACAAAUUUAUAUAGUUGUUGUUUUCUUCCACUUUUUCCUAACGUGACACCAAGAUUGCUACCAGGGACCAGUUUGCAGGCGCAUUCCAUUCAAAUCAUGACCAGUCAAUGUCAACCAUGAGAGGCAUGCAUUUGGAUAUUUUUGAGAAAAUAUGUCAUGUAUACAUGCCCCUUAAUCCAUAAAAUCUUGAAAAAAAAGCAGGAAUUGCAUUGGGUCGCAUGAAAAUGCUGCUUAAUUUACCACCAACAUCUGCAUUUGACUUUAUAGGUAGGCGUGUGUUAAUCGAUAAGGAUGAUUUCUUACGCGGGUGAAAUUAUUGACUGAUUGACGAGUCUGAGUCGUUGAUGCAUGAUGCAUGAUGUUUCAUUAUAUGCCACACAUCCACAACAGAUGACAACUUGAAAACUAUCAUCAUUUCUCUUUUCCUUUGUCCAAGUUAGGUUGCAUCAUCAACGGUUGAAGAUGAAAGAAAAUUCAUGAUUAUGAUGAUGAGGAUGAGGACCACGACAUAAACGAUAAGAGUUGCCAUGAAAUUGAAUGAUAUGAUAAUGAAACAUUCAGUUGAAUUAUUAUUGAUGCAUGCAUUCUUGAAGCCCUUUUUGUUCCUUACUUUGGAGGAGAGGGGUGAGAAUUGAGACAAGACAUCUUUGUGCUGUGUUUCACUCCAUUGGGUCAUGCUUCAUUUCAACAAUAUUCAUUCAUUUUGCUUCUUCUUUUUUUAAAGAUAAAUCUUUUAUCAUUUUUGUAUUUAUAAAGUUGCUCUUUGAUAAAUCGUUUAUAAAUUGGACAGAGGAUUUCAAACUUAGAUUUUUUUAAUAUUUCAAAUUAUAGACUUUGGAAAAACCCAAAGGAGAGAGAAAUUUUUUAAAAGAAGUCAAAAUGGACAAAAUUGCCCUUAUUUGUUUUUAGAUUUCUUAAUGAAUCCUUUACAUUUGCAUGUCUUUGAUUUGAAAGUCGAGAGGUUUUUCUGUCUUUUUUGAAAAAGCUUUGGCUUUUUCCAAAAGUGAAAGUUUUUUUAUGGCUAAAACCUAAAUUUACUAAUAAAUUAAUAUAAAAAGGUAUUAAUAUGGAUUUUUUCUUUUUCAAGUUAAGUAAAAAAACUUUGACUUGCAGAUUAUAGAUUUGAGAUUCGAAUCUGCACAACAUUAUAGUUGUGUAUGUAAAUGAAAUCCUCCUCUCCUGUAUUUUAUACUAACGUUUGUACUUUAAAAAUAAAAAAAUAAAAAUCAAGUACCAUUAUAAAUAGUGCUUUGACUCACUUUGAAUUUUGAAUGAUACCUGAGAUGUGAACCAUAGUUUUACUGGUAUGCUUAUUCUCUAGCUGUAACCUUUAAGCUACAAUUUUUAUAAAUACCGUUUGAAUUAGAACUCAUGAUUUUUAUUUAUUUUUAAUCUAAAAAAAACUACAACAAUUGGAUGAUGGGUUUUUCUCUAACACCAAAAGUCAUGCUUAAAUAUAUGCUGCUGACUCAUUCACAUGAAAAAGCUUAGUAUUUUUUACAAUUAAUAAAAGGUUUGGGAUCUUGCAAGGGAUUUAUACAAUGCAAUGGAUAUGCCCCCUCUCUUGAAUUUUAAAUUGCCUUGACCCUCCUCUAAUGACUAUUGUAUUUUAUGUGGCAUAUAUGACUAAUUAGAAAGCAAACUAAUUAACUAUAUAAUUAAUAAUUAUUUUAAUAAUUAAACUAGUUUAUCUAAAUAGAUAAGGUAGAUUUGCAGAUGGCUAAGAGCUUAAGCACAACCAUUGGUUGCUCUCCUCACCUUGACCCUUGUACCCUCCAAUCAAAUAAUUUUGAAUUUUAUUAUUUUAUUUUUGCAAUUUGUAGAAUUGUUUAUAAAGCCUAGGUAGAAUAUCUGUCUGCCAAUAAGGCAAAGUCCACCUUAAUCAACCAACUUCUUUAUUUGUAUUUCUUGUCAAAGUUGUGUUAAUGGUCUCUCUGUCCAAGUCCUCAGAGCUUAAACAAAUAAAAGAAAUCUUAUAUGCUUUAGGAAAAAAAUCUGGAUCUCUCUAUCUCUCCUUGUAAAUAUAAUAUGUAACUGUUAACUCAGCAAUAAAAUAAUGACCUUUCCAAAUUUUGCAACUGGAUCUGUAUAGCAACAUGCUAUAUAUUAUUUUAUUUUAGCUUUGCAUGGCUGGUCUAAAAUAAUUUGUGAUGCUGCUCUUUUAAUCUGUCAUUUAUUUUUUUGUCACAAUCCUUUGAUUGUAUUGCAAGGAUUGUGUCAUUUUAGGUGUAACCAACGAGUCAUGAUUUGAAUGCGUCGUAGGAUUUGUAUGAAUUUAAUUUCAGUUUAACCAUCGUGUGACGAAUAGUAAAGUAGUAUGAUUUAGUUCGAUUUAGGCCUCAAAUAUUCGGACCCUACUGGUUUAUGGGUAUGGCCCCUCCACCUUUUGAUUCUUUUUUUUUUCCCCUUAAUCAAUUUUACAUGGCCAAUAGUUACUUAGCACGAAAUGGGUUUGUGUGUGCUUGAUUGGUUCAUAAAAAAAUUUGAUAAGAUUUGAAUGAAAUGAUGAUGUUGAAGAUAUUGCUAGCUACAUUAUAAUGAAUCAUGACCAUCCACAACUAAGAUAUAUAAGUCGUGUUCAUUAUUGAAGUGAAUUAGGAUAAGUUGUAAAUCCAAUCCCAUUGGGUUUUCAACUUUGCAUAACUUUGCUUUAGAUAUUCCCUUUUGGCAUUAUUAAAAGCUAAUCCAAAACCUAACCAAUGUGUGUUGUCUUCUCCCAACGUACUAGCGUUGAGUGGCAACUCGGUAGAGUUCAUUAAUUAUUGGAAAUUCAUUUUGACAUAUUGAUAUUGUUAAAUUUUAAUGAGAUAGACUAACAGUCCGCUAUUAGCAACACUGAUAAUGUUUUUAACUUAAUUACCGACAAAGCCCAGUAAGUGUGAAAUUUUAUAUAAAAAGCCUCGAUGUAAUUAGUAGUGGAACCAUUAAUUAUAUGGCGUAAUUUAUAUGAUCAAGUUUUCGAUGUUGGACUUAUUCUUCAACAUAUAUGACUUAUGAGGUCUAUCCAUGGCAAGAUGUCAAUCGAGGUCAUUAGCAUAUUUAAAUAUUUUCUUAGUUUGGUUGGAUCGAUAUGCAUUGUUGAUUCAUUAUCUAACAAUCUAAGUUUUUAGGACGAUUAUCUAACAUGAUAAUGGCUAGGAGGUCACGGAUUUGAAACUUCAAACCUUUUACGCUGUGCAUAUGUCUAUCUUUGUGGGUGCACGGUGGGCUACACAUGAUGGGGGAGUGUUAGCUUUUUUUUGUUGUUGUUUUUUUUGUUUAUUUUGGAAAGAAAACGAUGCAUUGAACCAAAUAAAAAAAAUUACAUAAAAUCUUUAAAGAAUGCAUCUUGGAUGAUACUGGGAGGAUCCCUCACAACUUAAGCUUAUGGGGACCAUAAUGGUUGUCUAACGAGUUUCACCUCAUGGCUCCUAUUGGCAAGUCCUAAUUUUAAGUGGUUUAGGUGAUUUUCUAGGUAACUAUUGCUUACUUUAUCAUAAUUUUGUGCAAAUUAACUUUGCUUAUUCAUAAGUUAAAACAUGCUUAUCAUUAGGGGGCCUAGAUAUGUUAUAAGGCCUAAAUAGAUAGGGUAGUCCAAAUUGUAUGUUUUACAAAAGGUAAUUUGAUGUGCAAGGUUGAGUGUUCAUGGAUCCAAAAUAUUAAGAAAUUUGAACUUCACUACAACGAUGAUGUCAAAAUUGUUUUAUAGUAUUGUCAAGUUGGAAAUAAUUAAAUUAUAAUUAAUGGUGUUUAGUGGUGUUUACAAAAUGCAUUUUCAUGAAGGGAAUUAUUAAAGGGAAAAAAGCAAAAAGGUAAUUGGCCAUUUUCUUUUAUUUUGUUAAUUCCUAUAUUUAAUGCUGUUCUUAUCAUAUUUGUAUACCACUUUCGGUGGCAGAUGAGGUAUAUAUCCACAUCAAUUAAAAAGUGUCAAUAAAUCAUAAAAAAAAAUAAAAUGUUAAAUUAAUUUUACUUGAUGUGGUUGUCCACCUCAUCUGCCACAUAAAGUGAUAUAAGAAUGUAGUAUACAAAUGUGAUAAGAGUAGCAUUAUUCAUUUUGAAAAGUCGUAAAACCCCUUGACGAUUUUUGCGAGACAAGACAUAUAACAAACAAUAUGUUGGACAUAAUUAAUUUGAUUGUAUUUCUCUGGCAACAUUCAUAAAUCAGUGAUAUGUAUACCGACGUAGAGGGCAAGAAAAACAAGUAAGUAAAUGUGACUAAAUAUUAAUAUCAUCUGAUUUAGUAUGCAUUGAUUUUGAUUUUGCAACAAAUAAAGAAUAUCAAUCAAAAUAAUUAUCUCUAGAAAGAUCCAGCUCCCCAAGAAGAUAUAUAUAUAUAUAUAUAUAUAGGAACUUUGAAGAUUUUCAUACCUUUUGCCAAAAUGGAUAGGGAUGCAUUCUUUCUCACUACCGUCCUCAGUUGCUUGCUGAUGUAUUCACAAUAUCAGAUAGGAUUUUCAGUUUAUUUUAAAUUUCAAAUAUUUUUGAUAGGAUUUUCAGUUUAAUAGAUCAUUUGUUAAUAUCGUGAAGAAAAAAUAUGUCAAGCUCUUGCUUAAUCCAUCUAUAACUGGUUUAUUUUUGAAACAAUAAUGAAAAAGAUUCAUUUGUUAAAGAAAACAUUCACAUUUUUCUCAAUGGUAGAAAGUAACCAAUUAGGAGCUAACCGACUCCACAAAUAAGUUUGGUUAUAUCGGGCGAGAGUUUUAUCUAUGAUUGAUUCUUAUUUUAAGAUGCUCACGAAAGAACAAUCUAUGAGUGCUCGAAAAUAACCAAUCAAAAGGUCAGCCGAUAUUAUAUAUAAAGUGUUCUCUGAAUGGUCAAAAAGCUCUUUUAGUGGUCGAAAGUAACCAAUCAGAAAGUUAGCCAAUAUUACAUAGAGCGUUCUCUCAAUGGCGAAAGUAACCAAUCAAAAGGUUACCCGACCUCAUGUAGACGUUUCGUUACAUUUUCCCUACUCAAACUAGACAAGCCGCCUUAUGACAUGCACAAGGUACAUAUAAAAAAUAAUAAAAUAAAUAAAUAAACAAAUAAAAACUUAUUAUGUCACAAUGAAUCAUUUUAUGAGUUAAUUUCACAUAUCAUCUUCUUAGACUAGAAGGUGGAUAAUUAGGGACAGAUUUUUGUAUCAAGUCUUUGAUUGAGCAUGUGACCAAAAGGAUUGAUAGAUGACAAAAUAAAGUAAUAAGGCUAAACAAUGCAGAUUGAUUUUCCCUUAAGAAAACCAUACAAAUAGAUAUAAUAGCCAAUAAUUAAGCACUUUAUACCAAAUAUGGAGGAGAAGAUAAGAUAAACUAAUGUUGAUAUUGGUACAAUUUCUUUAGAGUGUACAUAUUUGACCUAAUUAAAGAUACGUUAUCACCAAAUAGAAGAUUUGCAAUAGAUAGUUUUAUUUUCUCCACAAAGAGAUCACAUUACUUAAUAAUUGUUGGGGUAAAUUGAAAUAACAAAAAUAAUUUUUUUUAGAGGAAGUAGUAAAUUUUUAUUAAAAUUGUGAAAAAUUACAGACUCGAGCGAACAAACAAGACCUCAUUAAAACCUUACUUAGGAAAACCAAGCGGAACAAAAUCAAAAAUAAAUUAAAAUGAAAGAAAAGGGUUUUUUGUAUUUUGUAUUUAUAUAUCUUUUUUUUUUUUUUGUUUUCUUGUUUUAAAAAGGGAACGAAGUGGAAGGGUGUAGAAGACAGUGAACAACAGGAUAAGUUAGAGUGGAUAUUUCUGGUCACUGUCUUUGCCACGUAAUUACGAACGUGUCAAAGCGCGUGGUUCCCUAUUUCGCCGACGGCGGACGUUAGCCUCUCCUCUUCUAAACACACCCACCAAUUUACUCACUGCACCCCAACAUUUCAUGUCCAUGUGUUGCGUUUUUGUUGUGAGCCCUGUGACUACUGUUUUCUAUAUAUAUAGCUGUCUAAUUGUACCAUUUUUCCUCCUUUUUUUUUUUUUUUUUUUUUUUUUCAAUUUAUUUAUUUAUUUGGGUUUUGGCUUAUCCUCCACCCCCCUGCCUCUUCCUUAACCUGCGCACCCCCCCCUCCCCCUCUCCCCCUUUGUCUCUCUUUAAUUACACAACGCAAGGCUUCUCUCUCUCUCUCUCUCUCUUUGCGUCUUAUGACUCUGCUUCACCGUCUUCUUCUUCUCCUCCUUUUUUCCAAUUGAUGACUACAAGCCCCGUAAUCUGGAAGCUCAAACGAAGACGACGUCGCAGCGGUGAGGGGUAAAUCCGAAAUUUUCCAUCACCGCCGCCUCAGCAGCAGCAACAGCAACACACUAUAUAUCCUCUUUUGUCAUUACUGCUGCUGUGUUUCCAGACCGAACAAACAAACAGCAACCUCUGUUGAAUGGAUGUCUUGGUGGGCCCCGCCUUCUCCAUCGGGGACGGCCGCGGCCGUCUCUUCGUGAAGCAGAACGUGGAGGCGCUGCCGAGGUCCGAAGAGGCUUCCUCGGACAGUUCGUCCUCGAUCGGGGCUCCUGACGACAGCGAAGAAUACGAUUCCAAAGGAGAUGAUGGCGACGGCGACGGCGAGGAGGUGCAGAGCAAGUUUAACGGCGGCGGAGGCGGAGGAGGGUUGGGUUCUCUGGGUUCGUUUGGUUCGUUAGAAGAGUCUCUUCCAAUCAAGUAAGUCACUGUUUAGAUCUGCAACAUGAAAUUUUCAUUUUUGUUUUUAGCUUAAAGUGAUCAUCUUUGUUGAAUUUCAGUUUUGAUCCUGGUAAUAAUUAAAUAUUUAAUUUAAUUUAAUUUAAUUUAAUUAGUGGUUUUAUAUGUUAAUGACUUGCUUAAUUAGCUUGGGUUGAUUUUCAUUUGGGUUUUUUUUAUAUUUAAAAAAUAUAUAAUUUGUUUAUGCAGGAGGGGAUUAUCCAAUUACUUCUCAGGAAAAUCAAAGUCAUUUGCAAGUCUGUCAGAAGUGAGCUCCUCCGUGAGCUCAGUGAAGGAGGUGGAGAAGAGAGACAACCCAUUCAACAAGAGGAGGAGGGUUUUGAUUGCCUCCAAAUGGUCAAGAAAGUCUUCAUCUUUCUACAACUGGCCCAACCCAAAGUCCAUGCCUUUGCUAGCCCUAGCUGAACAUGAGGAAGAUGAAGAAGACGAUGAACAGCAGCAGGAACAACAAGAACAGCAAGACCCAUCAUCAGACCAAUCUUCAUCAGAUGACAAGGAACAGCAAGACAGAAGAGCCCCAAAGAAUUUGCUCGACAGAAGGCUCAAGAGUUUCAAGUCAAGAAGUUGCUAUUGCCUCUCAGAUCUGCAAGACCAUUAAGAACAUCAACUUGGGUGGCUUAUUUGGUUUUCUUUUUCUUUUUUCUUUUCUUUCUUUUUUUUAGGGUUGUUGGCUGGAGGGUCUGUCUGUUUCUAUGUCCACCCAGAAAAAAAUUAUAUAAAAUAUAUGUUUUAGUAAAUAUUAUCUCCAUUAUCUUUUGGAUUAUUGUUUUUAUUUAUUAUUUAUUUAUUGGUGUUAAUAGGAAAUGGAUAUACAUGAUCUGCUGAAUCGGAUAUCUCAAGUAUAAAGACCUGUUUGCCCCUCAAUCAAUUAUCUUGGUCAGGUUUUGGUAUGUAACAUAGGGUUUAAAAUAUUACAGAUCUUUUAUCCUGUUCCUUAAAAAAAGGAAAAAAGGAAAAAAGAAAAAAAGGAAAAAAGAAAGUACUUUUUCUCUCCAGAGACUUAUUGACUUCAACUCGAUCAUAUCACAAAGAUACUGAAAUGGUUCAAAGUCAUUUCUGAUUGAUUAGGUUACAGGCUUACAGCUUCAAGGAUUUUUGUUUGGUCGGUGCAAACGAGGAAAGCCACAUAUGAAACAGAAACUGAUAGAAACCAAAACCUGACUUCGGAAGUCACCAGAAUCUUUUUUCUGGAGGAGGAACUAAAACUCAAUAAUGUGUCAUAUGCUCAUCAUCGACCUUGUUUUUAGGUGUAGGAGUCAAAUAUCGACUGCUUCGGUUACCCUUGUGUGGGUGUGUGUUUUUUGUUUGUUUUUUCUUUUCCAAAAAGUAUUUCGAUUCCAAUUUCCAUUUAGCUAUCUUACCAAUAUCCAGUUUGUCAAAUAGGCCUGGCUAGGUCGAUUUGUCUUGGGUUAGGCUCCACACGAGACCGCUUGGCCCAAUCACGUACCAUUAAGGCACUUAGGUUGGGCCGGGUCAUGAGCCGAAGUAUCUUUCGACUCAUGGCAAGCCACCGAGCUCGAGCUAAACCUAAUAUAGCUUAGGUGAAGCUUGUGUAGGUAGAUAUCAAAAGCGUUUUAUAUCAGGUUCUGUCGUCCCCACUACUUCUCGAUUAUAGUUAGAUAUGAAUUCUACAAUAGAGCUCUUAAUGAAAUUUAUUCUUGAGUCAACCUUCUCAAUCUUUAUUGUUUCAAGGCUCGUCAUAGUACAAAAAGAGGGCUCAACUCCAAUCAAGAAUAAUGGCGUUGAGUUUCUCGACCAUUGGUCUUAGGAUUAGUCAAUUAUAUUUCUCGAUGAGGGAUAGAGGCAUAAGAAGGGAUCUAACUCAGCGGUAAAUGUCACCUUGAUGUGGUGGAAGUCAUCAAUUCGCGAUGCUUUACGAAGCACCUAAAUUUGUAAUCAACAUUUCAUCAUGUCUCUAAUAAACGUGAUUUUGGUGAAGUGGCUAGCAUGUGAUUCUUCAUGAAGUAUUAAAAUAUUUUAACAAACAUUUCAACGUGUAAAAGCGAUUAGGGUGAAGCACCAAACAAGUGAUUCUUUACGAAGCACCUGAAACUUAAUAAACAGUUCAACAUGCUUUUAAUAAAAGCGCUUAUUAUGAUGAAGCAACUACCAUGUUUUUAUAGCAACAAAAAAGAAGAAGGUGUUUCUAGCAAAAACGGUUAUGAGCAAAAUUAUUUCCUACGUAAAGAGUCUCAAACAGGCCCAUAAUAAUUUUAUUAUCGAGCUUGGGUUGGGCCUCAAGUCAGGCCCUACAAGGAAAAAAACAUCAAAUUAAACAUGAAGUAGGACAGGAUGCAGAUGCUCCAACGUGUAAUUAUACCAUGGCGUGCCUUGUGGCGCCACUUCGUUGCACCUCCUCCCACUCCCAUCUCACGCUCUCUUUCUCAAUCUCAAAACCUCCAAUUGGUUUUGGGGCCAAACUCUCUUCCAACGCGGCCGUUCCCACGAGUCGACUCGUCCGAAACUCGAUGAGUCAACCCGCCGCCGAAGCCAACUCGGACACCUCGAAAUCCGAGACCCCCCCGGACGUCCUGGUUCAAUACGUGGUGCUCCGCCGUGACCUAAUCGACACGUGGCCGACGGGGAGCGUGGUCACACAGGGCUGCCAUGCCUCUGUAUCCGCCAUUUGGUCCCACAAAGACGACCCUCACACCCUCCAGUACUGCAGCCCAGAAAAUAUCGACUCUAUGCACAAGGUAACUUGUAAAGCUUGCUCCUUUAUGGUGCUUUGAUUAUAAAACUUGGGUUUGAAUGUGAUGCUGGAAAGGUUGGAUUUUUUUUUUAGUGCAGCAACAUUUUCUGAUUUCUGGGUUGAAGUGGCAUGAUGUUUUUGGUUCCAAAUGUUGAAGGGAAAGUGUGAUUCUUAGUAAUGGUGAUGUUCAUGUUGCAUUUCUUCAUUGUGCUCAGAAGGGUUUUUGCAUACACUAUGAUUAUUUUUCUUCUACUUGUGUGCAGAAAUUGUAUGAAACAGUAGGUAAUAUGAGGUUGCAUAGGUUAAAAUCAUUGCUCAUUCAAUUGGGUCAUUGAGAUCAAUGCCAGAAAAUUUGGGUUCAAGUUGGGUGGGAAUUUUCUUGUUAACCAAUCAGUGGGGUUUGUAAAUUUGGUCAUUGUAUGCUGAAUUUGUUGGCUGCAAUUGCUUUAAAAGUAGUGAUUACAAUGGUCUUAUCAAAUUGUGCAGGUUACUCUUGAGGUGAAAGGAGAACCCCAGAUAUUGAACUUGUCCGAGAAGCUCACAGCUGGUGGCAUAGCACACAAACUGUGGAUUGAACAACCCGAAAACUACCCAACUUGUCUCGCCACAAAACCUUACCCCAAAUCCGUGGUGUCGGCAUAUUUUAAAAAGUUGAAACUCUGUAAGUGAUGUGAUUAUUGAUCCCAUCAAUCCAUAGCUACGAUUAGUAUAUGAGCUCCAAGGAAAAUCCUCUCAUUUAUGAACUGAUUCUUAAAGCUUUGCAGUUUUGCUUGCCCUUUAUGUUGGAAAAGUUAGAAUACAUACAGUUGAUUAACGGUCUAAUUGUGGGGCUUUGCUAUGGGACUCUGUUUUGUGUUUGCCCUUAUGAAAUUGGAAACUUGAGAGGAAAUGGGCUUUUCAAUGUUUUCUGGGGUUAGGGAAAACAGAAUGGUCUCUUAUGAGCUUUGAUAUUCAUCACUCUUUGGCCCUUGGGAUUCAGCAAUUGAAAACUUUUAAAACAUACUUCUCUCUGAUGUUUUCAAUUGCAAGAAAUGCCCAAAAGAGAAACCAUGAAACUGUUUGCUGGUUGUACAUCAACUGGCAGAGAUGGCAAUCUCGAUGGGUUAUAAGAAAUAGAAACUAGAUUGCGUUUCAAUUUAGUUUUAAGAAGAGCAAUCAAACAAAAUCUAGAAAGAACUCCACGAAAAUGCCGCAAGCAUGUAAAUAGAGCCUGUCAUUUUGUUUAUCAGUAACAACAAAAAAGUCAUAUUACAUAUUUACACGAGCACAAAUUGCAAUCUCUGUAUUUAUUAUGAUGUCGGUUUAUAUCACUGUACUACCAAGCGCCUAGUGCACACGGCGCAGUACAACUUGCGCUUGGUCUUCCAGUAGAGAGGCAGGAAGCAGAACGUCCACCGACUCUCAACAUCCAUGGCUUGCACCAUUCCUCCACAGUAGGGGCAUGCCCCUGGUGCUGGUUGCCUUGAAAGCACCGUCUCAUCUUCACCACACACAAACACGAAACACAUGGUUCCUUCUUCCUUCAACCCCCUCGGGCCUUUCCGGGUUUCUGGGUUGCUUGCUCCUUUCUCUGUCUUUCCUUCUUUUCUGUCUCGGGUUGCUGUGUUUUUGGUAUAUUUCAAGGCGGAAGAAGCUAAGCUGAAGCUGUUUAUUUGCUGGUAAGAUAAUAGAUGCAGGCAGAUAUGAUCACAAAGUUUUUCAAGGCUUCAUGUUUAUAUGGGGAGGUUUCUUUUGGGAUUUUUUCAAAGUUCUAGCUUAGUCUGGAAGUUUGGGAACUGGAAAGGGUGGAGAAAGGUCCAAUUGUUGUGUAAUAAGCGCGUAUGUAGAAGAUUCUAGACCCCAAACGUGACAAUUUCAAUUUUACAUAAGAUAAGAAUUUUAUGUCAUAUUUAACCGCGUUGAUGCUUCUUCAGCAUCCCUUUCUGACGUAAGUGAUGGGAAAAAAACAAAACAAAACAAAAUGCUCUGUCCUUUUUUUUAUUGGUUAUUCCUUAAUUUGCUCUGUUGAUGGAAACUUGCCUCAAACUCAACUCAAAGCUUUUCUGAAAACAUCAUGACGCAUGUCAAAUAUAAUCAACUCAAUUUGCUCAAAUCCAAUCGAAAGCAUAAAGUAAAAGCUGUGAGACCCGUGCGUGUUUCACAAUCUUAUUCAAAAAAUUUGGCCUUAACUGGAUUACUUUGAAUUUUCUAUCCAAUAAUUAAAGGCAUGAAAAAGAUCUUCCAACUCUUCAAACCCUCAAGAAUGGUCAUGAUCCUUUUUUCUCUUUUUACUAUUGGCAACUUUAAUUUGGAGCCAAUGCAAAAUAUUCUACAAGAUUUAGAUAAGAUAUGACGGAUCUCAUAGGCCACCAAGAGGAGAAAAACUUCAUUGUAACGGGAAUAAGUUUGGCUCAACGAAGAGGUCAAACGAACCUGAAAAAAAGUGCCACUAUAUAUGUCUCUGUCUAUGUAGAAGAGCAAAGCAAAUAUUGAGCCUAGCUGUAGAAUAUUAUUAUGUAAACAAUAUAAAAGAAGUUGGGUUGUGCAUAGUUUAAAAUAAAAUUGCCUAACGAGGCCAAAAACAGAUAUGAAUGAUAAUUGAUCAAACUCAAUUAUUUUAGGCGUAAAGUACUUGACAACUAGAAGGAGAGAAGCCCCUAAAAGCACUUGGAGCUGGCACAACCUGCCACUCAACUUUUAGCUCAUCCUUUCCUCCUCCACACUCAGACAGCCUUCCUAUUCCCACAUUCAACCCACAUGCCACCACAUAUAUGUUCCCUUCCACCCCGCUCGCAGCAAAAGGCCUUCUCAGUGCCUCACAUGGGAACUUGUCCCCACUCACAUACCGCCAUGUGUCCUCAUCCGGAUCGUACACCUUCAUCGGACAAUCCCCAUACUCCGAUAUGACCAACAACCUCUCACCCACCACCACGCUAACCCCCGUCCACCCGUCCCUCAUCCCCUGCCUCAUCUCCUGCCAAGUGUCCUCGUCUGGGUCAUAAACCACGCCUCGUGGCGAAAGCAUAAACGGCCACAUCCACCCCUCUGUGACAUACAUCUUGUUUCCCACCACAUUGGAGUCGUACUUGGCUAGACUCGUGGGCAGCGUGGCAGACGCUGCCCACGUGUCAUUUUCAGGGUCGUAACAGUCUACAGCCCUAAUCGAAUCACCAUUGCGGGCCACACCACCGCCAACCGCCAAGAUCUUACCAUUGAUAUUUCCCGCCUCAAAAAAUGAUCGUGGGGUCCGCAUUGGAGCGGCAAUUGACCAUUGAUUUGUAGACGUACAGUACACGAUGGUGGUGCGCGUAGAACAUUCUGAGUCUGACCGCACGCCGCCCAAGACAACGAGCUUCCCCUGACGUGGCAGCGAUGUGCAUGCGAAGCCCGGUGGGCAGGCGGCCUUGGGGAACGGCAUGGGAGGUAAAACAAACCAACGGCCCGAUCGAGGGUCCAGCGCCUGCCACUGAAUCCUGGACGUCACUUUGUUGAAGGCAAAGACGAAAAGAUAAGGCAGAGGAAGAGACAGAGAUUUCUUGCAGCGAACGAAGCUAGAGUCUGUGAUGGCUCUGUUCCACGAAGCAGAGACCGAACGCACCAGAGCUUGGUAGGGGUAGGGAAGGUAAAGAAGGCAGAGCUCGGCAAUCUCGUCCGGUAACCCAGGAAUUAAUGGCUCAGAUUUGUUGCUGCUUUCUUGGUCAGAACAUUGAUCAGAAACUGGGUUUGAUACCGAUGAAGAUGACGAUUUCACAGCCGCCAUUGAUGGAAAUCAAACACAAACACAAACAAGCUGCGAAUUUCUAAUCUAGAAGUAUAAAUAAAACUACCCAGAUGAAGAAAUUGUCAUAAAAAUUGAAUUUCUAGGAGAAUAUAUGGAUCUAAGAGUGAGUAGCUAAGGUGUUCGACACUUGGACUAGCUGAUGAUCUUGUAGCAUAUUAUAUCCGACUAUUUAUAGUGACAAAAAGAUAUCAAGUAGAUCAAAUUAAGGAGUGUGAUGACGAAGCAAAGAUUCACUUUGUGGAGAAAGGUGGGAAGAAUUAUUGGGUCGUCAAAGGUCUUGAAAAUGGACGAUCAAUUGUUUAAUUUGAUCUUAAAAAUUGGAUUUGUUUAAGGCAUUUGGGUGAUUGGGUGGUGCUUGUUUUUUUGUGUGCGCGCGCAUCUAGAAACCGGAAAGUAAGGCAAAGAGUGACGGCACAAAACUUGAGAACACACACCGGCAGAUCCGAAAGAAAAAGACUUGUGUGGAUUAAACAAACAGCAACAAAACGAAAGUUUCAGUAGAACCAGGUUCAGAGUUUCUUUUUACAGAGAGACAGAAAUUGGUGGUUGGUUUUCUGAAUACUUGAAUUUGUGGGUUUUAAAGAAUAAAAAAAUGAAGAAUAAGAAGAGGAUGUGUAAAGGACUUGUUUUUUGGGGGUGAGCUGGGUUUGAUCCAAUGGGGAUGCAUAGUGGUGCAUGAUGAUUGAUUGGAAUAAAAGGAUGAGAGUUGUGGGGUAUGCAUAUAGGUGUGAAGAUGAACUACUGGGAGAGACUUAUGAUCCCAUUUGCUUUAAUGAGAAUGACUAUAAUAAUAGUUGUAGGCCCAUUUCUUUAUGGUUUGAAUAAGACUUCUUAAUUUUGUGAUCUUUCACUUAGCGGAUAAGUAUCUUAUCAUAAAUGUUAUUUCGUCACACAAUUUUAAUUUGUUACGUUAAAGAAUGUCUAAUAAAGUUAUUAAUUUGAACGCAAUUUUAUUUUCAGGAAUGGUGUCGAAUUACAAAUUUAAUAAUCUAAUAUGUAUCACAUAUUCAAUAAGAGAAUAGUUCCCGAUAUCCUCUUUUAUGUUUCUCAAUUUAUUCUUCAUUUUGAGCAACAUAAACGAAAUUAGGAGCAAGAGAAGAGAAGUUUUUCCCUAUGCGAUAACUCCCUUACAAAGAAAUGACCCAUGAGUGUGGUUCACAUGCAUGCUCUCAUUCUCUGUGAGAGACUGGUCUUAUUAGGGCAAUCCUAGGCUACACAAGAAUUUCUUCCGGAGCAGGCAUGGCUAUUCUAUUCACAUAAGGCAUUUGGUGCUUUCCUUGUCAAGGCAUAGCACCCUUUCUUUUUAAGACAGUUCCUAAAUUUCAUCAGCAUUUUGUCCUUCCAAUUAAUUACACAUUACAAUUGAUGUGCAAUUUGUUUCAAUCAAUGAAUAAAUGAAGCCAGGCUCCUGUUAGUUAUACUUACUACUCCAAUCUAUUUGUGUCGUGGAAAACUUGAGGUGACCGCUUACAUGUCCUUAUCAAAUGUUUGGUUUGAGCAUUUGAGUGAUUUGAGAGUAAAUUUUUCAAUAAGUAUUUUAUGUUAAUGAUUGAUUACAUAUUUUUAAUUUCGAUAAUUAAUUAUACGUAUGUUGCAUAUUAAAUUUACUAACACAUCUAAUGAAUGCAAUUCAACAGCUGAAAUUAGAAAUAUAUAACAAAUCUUUAAUUUAAAUACUUAUUAAAAAAUUUCCCUUAUUUAAUAACUUUUUUUAACAUAACAUACGCGAAUUUACAUAAAAGAAAACCUCGUGUGAACACGGAUUGAGAGAUUAGAUUAGUAAAAAUAAAGCACAAUUCUUUUUAAAUGGUGAAAUUGAUAGAAAGAAAGAAACACAAAAUGGAAAAUGAAUGAAGCACACGAAGUUUGGAAAAAUCUGCAUAAAAGUCAAGAAUUUUUCGUCCACGACAAAAUAAAAUAAAAAAUUAAAGCUUAAUGUCGUUUUCUUGCUUGUUCGGAAAAUAGAAAAUGGCAUACUUUUCCCAGUUUUCCAUGAGCUGUUUGUGCUGGUUAUUUGGGUCAGUUUGAACACCUCAAUUAAAAAAGUACAAGGGUCAUUCCGAAAAAUGACAAACAAAUAAGGAGCUUUUCCAACUCCGCCCACUUGGCGCUGUCCUUCUGGUGUGAAAAGAGGAAAAGUUUGCCUUUACCUCAAAUUGGAGGGAUGAGCAUGAAGCUCAAAAGUUGAUUAUGAUGUCGGCCUUUUUUCUAGGCAUAGCCUAUAAACAAAAAAGGAGGUCUGAAAAUGGCUGAAAGGGUAUAGUUUUGGGCACGAGAAUAUUACCUUUGUAGUAAAAAAAUGAAGGCGUUGCUUGCCUUAUAUGUGUUUUCAACUAGAACAAGUAGCUUUUUGUAUGAUAAGUUGUCAAUUUUCACAUCUCAUUGUGUACCCACUGCUGCGCAUUUAUCUUGUGUUUCAACCCCAUUUCAUUUUGUCUAUGCUUUAAAUAGAAAAUAUUCUCUUUCGCAAAAGUGACAUUCUAUGUUCGAUUGUCAAUUUAAACCGUUGAUUAGGUAUUUACUCCGUCUAAAUGUGUUUGCAUUAAUAGUCUGAUAUGAAAAUACCAAAUCUUAACCCAAAAAAAAAAGAAAAUACCAAAUAGUCUAGUGAGUCGACAUUAUCUUGGUUUUCAUUUUUAAUUGCAUGACUAAGUGCUUCUAACCACUUGAGCUACAUUCAUUUUCCAAUAUUACACUAUUUUUUUUUAAUUUUGAUUAGAAGCGAUUACACACAAGAGAGGGUGAUUACACACGCAGGGGUUCUAAGUUCUAACCCAUGACCUGAUGGGUUAACAACAAUUCACUCUACCACCAACCAACUGGGCUACUAGUUGUUCCCGCAAUAUUGUCCUAAUUUUAAGCAGGCAACCUUUUGUUAUUUGAUUACCAGAAAGGAAAGUUUGGUUAUUGGACCAUGAUGGGCCUAUGUGGGCCUAUUGGGCCUGAACUGAUUAAAACAGUGUACCCACUAAUUUACCCGCCAAUAAGCUAAAAGCUCCCGACUUCAGUCUCUGACUGACAUUAUCUGUACAGAGGGAUCCAUGGCCGAUGGCUAGCUCUGAGCCUUUUCACAAUAUACAAUGCAAGCCUUCUCUCCCUCGUUCUCUGUUUGUUCUUCUUAUCCAUUACGGCGUCGUCGAAUCAGCACCGCCCCUCCCCGCAAACCUAAUCUCAGGCGGCUCACCUCCCGCGUCGUCCAACUCACUCGCCGGAGACAGCUUCACCAGGUCCUGUUUUCCACAACCCUGUUUUCUUUUUCUCGAAAUAUAUAUUUUUCUGUUUUGCAUUGAUGGAUUUUUUUUCUUCUUGAUUUUAUUGUUUUGCAGAUAAUGGAGGAGAUAGAGAUGGCCAAAGAACGAUACGGGAAGCUGAACACCAUAGUGAUGAAUGCGGUCGUCGAGGCAUGUGUUCAUUGCGGCGAUAUCGACUCUGCUCUUAUGGUGUUUGAUGAAAUGUCUGACCCAGGAAGCUGCGGCGUCGAUACUGUCACAUAUGGUACCCUUUUGAAGGUACUUUUUUUAUCUUCUUCUUUUUUUAAAAUAAUUUUUUUAUUGCUUCCCAUGGAUUUGUUAUCAGUGAUUUGGGUGCCUUGUUGAAAGGGUUUGGGCAGGGCUCGAAGAAUUGAUGAAGCGUUUCAAGUACUUGAAUCUGUGGAGCUAGGUACUGCCGUGGGAAGUCCAAAGUUGUCAGCACCUCUCGUUUUUGGUCUGCUCAAUGCUCUAGUUGAAGCAGGUCUGUAUCACCAAUUCAAUGCUCUUUAAUAAGUGCUUUGUGGGCAUUGUCUUAAUAUAAUGUUAGGACCAAAAUAAUAGCACCCAAUUGAAAGAUCAGUUUUCUGAUCAGUACAUUUUGGUUACUAAUAAGCCAAAUUAGUUGCUUACAAACGUGCAUGCGCUGUUUGCUUCUUGCUGUAGUGCAGGAGAUUUACGCCGUGCUAAUGGGCUUCUUGCACACUAUGGUUUUCUUCUCCGCGAAGGUGGCAGUCUUACACUCACAGUCUACAACUUAUUAAUGAAGGUUCUGCACUGACCUAUAUAUUGUUCUUUAAGAGACUUAACAAAUUACAGUAUGAAUUUUCUUUUUCUACUUUUAGAACUGAGCUUUGCAAUCAAGAUACAGACAGCGUUUUGUGUAUGCACGAUCCUAGAUUUAUAAUUUUAGUUGAAAAUGUUGUGCCUUAAGGGUUUUCUGCUCCUGAUUUUCAGGGAUAUAUCAAUGCAGGCAUUCCUCAGGGUGCGAUAACCAUGCACACAGAGAUAUUACGUCUAGGAUUAAAGCCUGAGAGGCUCACCUAUAAUACUCUAAUAUCUGCAUGUGUAAAAGCUGGAAAGUUGGACAUGGCAAUGCAGUUUUUUGAGGAAAUGAAGGUCCCAAGCUAUAUAAAAGGCCAGUUUAGAGCCUGUAUAUGAUAUUUUAAGAGUAUUAGAUUGUUGCAAAUUAAGUUACUAAAUAUGGCUCCUUGUUUUAGGACGAAGCACAGAAGUUUAGUCAUGGUGACCUUUUCCCAGAUGUCGUCACUUACACUACACUACUUAAGGUACGUUUACUUUUCUUUCAACAACCUUGUUAAUGAAAUUUAGGACAUGCUCAUUUUUGCAAGUUAUUCAAUGUAUUUUCUUAACAAUGUCAACUGUAUGACAUAUUCAUUAUUGCAUGGUAGCAUUUUUUACAGCCACUGUGGUUGUAAACUUUCUUUAUAGUCUUUUUCUUUUAAACCUUGUUCUCUGUAACAUUGUGGUAAUCUAUUUUUUUUUUAAUUGAAAAAAGAUAUUAGGAACUUUAUGUUAGUAGUUUCCUUUUCGUUUUUCUGAAUGGAAGAAGUAGAUUUUUCGUUCUGCCCCACCCCCCACCUCCUGAGGAAUACGCUUUAUAUAUUUCUCUUGUUGGUAAAUUGAUGUUUCAGUUCCUUAAAGUCCUAUGAUUUUUUUUUUCUUUCUUUUUGUGUGUCUUCUUUUGGCAGGGUUUUGGGCAUUCCAAAGAUAUCAAUUCAGUUCAGAAGAUUAUAUUGGAAAUGAAAACAUAUAUUGGUUUGUUUAUUGAUCGAACAGCAUACACUGCAGCUGUCGAUGCUUUGCUAGGCUGUGGCUCAAUGAAGGGUAUGUUGUAGAAUGCAAUACAAGGAUUUUAAGUUAUCAGAAAUUGCCAAUGUCUAUAUCUUUACAUUUGCCUUAUUGUUUUAAGUUGCACGCCCUCCAUUUUUACAUUGCAAAAUUCAAUAUAUUGUCAAUCAAAUGAUGAAGAAGAGACAAAAGCGAUUUCUUCCACCUGCCAAUGUCAAGUAUGAUGGUGAUGUAAAGAUCUGCAAAAACGAUGCAAUUUGAAUAGAGCUUGUACAUUUGCAUGCUGAUGUAGGCAUCAAGAUUCCUCUGCAUUUAGUUUUCUCUGUUAGAGGUCUCAUUAAAUGCUGCACCAAGUAUGCCGCAUAGAAAGUGGACUGGUUAAAAUUUCAUGUUUCUUUUCUUAUCAAAUUUGGAUGGAUGCUGGAUUUUUGAAGUGUCAGAAAUUAAAACCAAUUCUUACUCUUCUACAAAUUAAAAUUUUGUCCUUGUGCUUAGGUGCUUUAUGCAUUUUGGGAGAAAUACUAAAGCUGGCUGGUGGAAAUCCAGACUUGCGACCAAAACCUCACCUCUAUCUUUCCUUCAUGCGUGCCUUUGCUGUUAGAGGAGAUUAUACCACCGUGGAAAAUCUAAAAGAUCACAUGUGGCGAGAUACUGCUGGAACUAUCUCCUCAAUGGUUCAAGAGGAAGCUGAUCAUCUUCUCAUGGAGGCAGCUUUAAAUGGUGGUCAGGUAGUAUAUCAACUCUUCACAAUCUUCUGUAUGGGGUGUGUUACUGCAUAAAUCUCUUUCCAUUCCUGUUUACUGUUUACCUUCAUGAUGUUUGAGGCAUUUGGAUGCUGAUUUUAAUAUCUAGAUCUUGCACAAGAUAUAUAGCAUUGCCUUCCUUUAGUUAUUUUUCCCCUCUAAAUGGUACUAUCAAGUUAGUGCAUUAGUUCAAUUUUGACUUAAUUCUAACCUUUUGCAUUUGAUUGGCAUGAGCAAUCUGACUUUGACCAUUUGUUGUUUUAUGUUUUUUGGUUUUCUCAGGUAGACGUGGCUAUAAAAUGCCUUGAAAAUGUUAUUACAAGGUGGAAGAGAAUAUCAUGGACAAGUCGAGGAGGCAUGGUAUGUAAUGUGCUUUUACCCUCCAUGACUGUUUAAUAGUUAUGAAGAUUAAGAUUAGAUGUGGUAGGUAAUCUACACUGUUUUGAAGGAUGACAAUGUUAUAUCAUAAUGUUAAAGACAUGCCUAAAAAUUCUGGGUUGGUGCUGCACAGUUGGUUUUAUCCUCUUCAAGUUCUCUAGACCCUUUAAAUUGAUACCGAGGAAACUUGUUUAAGGAUUUUUUUAUAUAAAAAUUUGGACUUAUUUCUUUGAAUUUCACAAACUUUAGUUCAAUAUUACUUCUUGUAUGUGUUAGUAGUUGACUAAGUAGGCCUUUUAUUUGGAAUUCUAUUUGUUUUCAGUGCUUACCUACAUUAUAAUUUCUGUGUCCUCCUAGCAUGAAUUCAUUAAUAUGCCUUUGCACUGCAGGUUGCACUACGCGUAGAGGCCUUAUUAGGAUUCACCAAAUCAAGAUUGAGUCCUUAUCUACUUCCUCAGGUUUUCAUACAUUUAUUUUCCUUUCAAAUUGUAGAUAAAAUUAGCUACUUAAGGUCCUAACCUGAUGACCUGGCAAAUAUACUUUCAUAUAUAGGUGUCAGUGCAUGUAAGAUGAUUGCUAAGGGGCCUACCAUGAGUGGUUUUAAUGUAGAAUAUCAAAUUAUGUAGAAGUGUGACUGGAUAUGAUUUUAAAAAUUCAAUGCACUGAUGAAGAAUUUCUGGUGGUGAAAAUAUAUUUAAAAAAUCAGAUACUUUAAUAACCCGGACUAGUUGAAUUAUGGAAGGGGGAUCUUUUAUAAAUCAAUCAAAACUAAUGAUAAAGGGACUACUUUCAUAUCUUUAGCCACUACUGAUUUACAUUCUGAUAUGUACUCAAUUAUUGGCUUUUAAUUAUUUUUGUAUGUGUUUGCUUUGUACACCUUUUCUAUUUAGGUAUUGACAAGUGAACCGAUUGAGAGUGUCAUGAUGCCCUUUGAAGCAGCUCGGCCACUAAAUGGGACCGUGCACUUGAACAAAGUGGUUAUGCGUUUCUUUAGGGAUUCAGUGGUGCCCAUUGUAGAUGACUGGGGUAGCUGCAUCGGAGUAUUGCACCGUGAAGACUGUAGAGAGGUAUUUACUAUUCACUGAUGGUAGAAAUAAAUUGCUUUUUAUCCUGGACCAUAGGGUACAAGCAAAAUCUGAUAGAUGUUUUCCCUAACAUUGCAAAUUUACAAGUCAAAUGCUUUGUGUUGUGUUGUAAACAGCAUUUUAACAAUUAAAUGAGCAUUUGUAUUAACAACUAUAUGUUUAAAGUUUAUGAGCUAAUGGAAGUUUGCAUACUAUUGCGUAGAUGAACGCCCCUCUUUCGUCGAUGAUGAGAAGACCGCCUCCUUGUGCUACUACUAGGACAUCGAUCGGCCAUGUGGUGGAUCUGAUUAUGAAGUACAGAUAUAAAAUGGUUAUUGUAAUAAACCACAGCUCAGUAUAUGGUGGUACUGCUUCAAGAUUGAGGGCAGUUGGUGUUUUUACAGCUGAACAGCUGUGUAAUCUUGUCACACCAGAAACGCCAGGACUGAAAUUUUCUUUAGGUAGAAACCUGAUUAACAAUCUACAGAGCAUGAAACUAUAGCCUCCUUGUAAAUUCAAUUUUUGUUAUAUAAAUAUGAUUGCAGUGAAAAUAGUAUCCUGAAAGGUGCUUGUUUAUACCCUGCUAUGAAGUCUUGUGGCAAUAAUAGCUGUUUUGGCUGAUGCAUUGGCCAAUUUGGCCUUACCAGAAAACAGCUCAAGAGGGUAAAUUCAAGGAACGAGGCUGUUAGUAAUUUGGAAUUUUACUAGCAUCUGUUGGCACGAGUAUAUGCAAUUCUGGUAAUUCUUGGGUGAGACUGUAAGACCGUCAUGUAAUAUUUGCUGUGAGAUUCAUAUUAAUCAACGUGCACCCAUGUGAAACUCGUAUAUUCAAGAAUCUCUAAGCAGGCCCAUAGCUUGAUAAACAUGAACCAUUAUUUGGGCUUUGUAACCCAAAUACAUUGAAUAUUUGAGAUCGUUUUCCAAUCUUUUUAAUUGACAUAUUUCUUUUAUUUAUAAUCUUAAUGGUGUAUUUCAGAAAAUCUCAAUAGGUGAUGCAGAAAACUUGACAAAAAAACAAGACCAAUGUGAAGCACCUUUAACAAAGGCUUCCAUCAGCCAAAAUUCAAUUAAAGAUUUAAGAAUCAAAUAAUCUAUUUUGUAAAAGCAAUUUUUGUAAAACCAAAAAUAAUCAGAGCCGUUGAUGCAACUGACAUAAGUAGAUUUUACCAAAAAAAUAAAAGAGAUAAAAGAAAAAGCCACUGUGCUACUGCUUCCCAAAACGCAAGGCAAGCCACUGGGAAACACAGGAAAUGAAUUGAACCCUCCACUGGCCACUGCAAAACCCUAAUUAACGAAGACACAGUGAGUGAGAAUGGCGCUCAAAGGAAAGGAGACGAUCAAGAGCAUGAUGAGGAAAUUCGGAGACAAAGCCCUAACUCCGCGACUGAAGGAGGAGGUGAAGAAGAAAGGCAUAAUGGGAGACAAAACCCUACCUCCGCGAUUGAGAGAGGAGCUCAAGAAGCAAGGCGUACCCGACUCCAAAAUCAUUAUGGGUCGGGCCAAACGUGGCAUCUACGCUGGCCGCCACAUCCAGUUUGGCAAUCAAAUCAGUGAAGACGGUGGCAACAAGUUCGUAUUUUUCUCAUUUUCUCUUGCCUUUUCAAUUUUAAUAGCUCUGCUUAUUGAAAAUUGAAAAUUUUCCCUAAUUUCAAUCCAUGACAAAGACAAUGCUAAAAAUUACAGAACUUUUUAUAUGAUUGUAGGACCCUUUGUAAUAUCUAAACCCAAAAUCUUGGACUUGAUCAGUGAUUUUGAUGUAAUUUAAUUUUAGUUAGCUGGGUAGUGACUGUUUUGAAUGCUUUGUAUUGUAUGUUUCUAAGCAUUUUCUUUGUAGGGAGUAAGGGUUUGUUGAGGUGUGUACUAUAUAUCAAACUGAAGUAUUAAACUUGUGGGUUGCCAUUUUAACCAUUGUUGCUUCAGAAAUUGUAUUCUCAAAGCUAUUUGAGCUAAGGCUUGAGCUGGCUCAAUCAUUGGCAAAACGUAUCAUGCGUUAUCAUAAGGAUUCUACGGAAUCUGGACAAGUGCCAGACAAGUAUUAGAAGUGUACAAGUUUUAUAUUUGUCUGCUGUGCCCAGGUCUACAUGGGUUUUUUUGUUUUGUUAGAAUUUGGCAUAGUGUAGCACGCUAUACAGUUUCUCAGAGUAUAUUCAAUGCAAUUUAUAGAAUAGGGUUGGCUUAUAUGACUCUGAUUUUGAAUUACUAGGUUCUUUAAUCUUGUAAUAAUUUGUGAAAAUGGGUCAUAUUAACCACCGGAACUUUCCUUUGUUGGCGGUGACAGGUCAAGGAGGACAUGGAAGCCAAAUGUGCAGGAGAAGCGUCUCUUCAGUUACAUCCUUGACCGUCACAUUCGGGUGAAAGUCACCACCCAUGCUCUCCGUUGCAUAGACAAAGCAGGUGGGAUUGAUGAGUACUUUCUGAAAACUCCUUACCAGAGGAUGGAUACAGAAAUGGGUCUCGUUUGGAAAGCCAAAAUUGAAAAGCUUUAUGAAGAGGUUCGGCAGACACCGGUUGCGUUAAUUAAACCUGAAGCUGAAGCCAAUUUGGAACAGAAAUUCAAACAACUAAAACUAGACGAGAGGGACGUCAGGAGAGAGAUGUACGGUUGGUCAAACAAACUAAAACAGAUUGAGGAAGGAGCUGACAACCAAGUAGCUGAUGAGGAAGGUGCAAGGAUUGGAGAACAAAGCUCUCAUGUUGAUGUUCCGGAGCAGUUGGUUGCAAACUCCUGAGUUUGGAGCUCGUAAACCAGCUUGGGAAUGUUCUCGUUUUUGUCAGCUACUUCCGGUUUUUAGAGUUUUGUUUCUCUUCAGGGUUUUUAGAGAGAAAUCGUAGUAGUAGCCGAUCCUGAUAAGCCGAAAUUUGUUCAUCUUUUCCCAUUAUGGAAAUUCACAUGACAGUCCUGUUGGUUUCAUAUACAAUUUUGUACUAAAUAAUUUCUAUAAUCUGCUGCUCAUGAUGAUCCCCUAAAUGGGGUUCAUGAUUCAUUAAGCUGCCUCACAAGUAAACUACUUUGCUUUCGCUCACUCAUCAUAUUGGUGAUGAUGUUUCUAUAACUAAAGAGAAAAGAAAAAUAAAUUAUGAUGUACUUAGAACCGUGUGAGCAUUCAAUAUAACUCGUGUGCUUAAAGCUUUGUGUUUCGUCUGUUUCCGUGUUUCUUUUAGCUCAAGGUGAGCUCUAAUGCUCUGUUCUUCUGUAUUUGGUAACACAAGAAACUCGAAAACAAAAGAAACACGGCUUUAAGAAAAACAGGACAUGAUCGCCUUUUUACCAACCCAAAAGUAGAAUAGGUUUUUUUUUUCUUUUUCCCAAAAGGGAUUAGGGGGGUUGUUUCAAAUGACCUUUGAAAUCCAGAAACGCCAUAAAUUUUUGAAGUUUAUAACCAAGACAUUAGUGAAAAGUCAUAUCAAUUUUUAAAGUUUAUGGAAACAGGAUAUUUGUUGUAUACCUCAAGAAUUAGAGCCGUUGCAAGUUACAGCCAUUUAGGCUUUUUAGCCAGCACCACCUUCAAAUUUCUUGUAGUGCAAAACUUAUUUAGCAAGCAGUGGGCCCCAUGACAACCAUUCUCUUCUUCUUCAUUAGCAAAAGAACAAAAAGAACAGAAAAACAAAACAAAAAACCAAGCUUAUGUUCUUCUACUUCUCUCUGUCACACUAGCCACCACCCUCCCUUCUCUCUUCCCAUGUACCUCACACACAAUUUACAUAGCUGUAAUUCUUUAUAAAAAUAAUCUAAAAUAAUAAUUAACAAAUAGCUGGAAGCUGCAGCCUUCACGUUCAAACACGCGUCGCCUAAUCAUUUCCAACACGCUUUCUAGUAAACCACAUAACCAAACAGUUGCUUGCUCAAGAAGCUUCUCUCCCAUGUCUAUAAAAACCCUUCACUCCUCACUCCAUAUGCAACAAUUUUGCAUCAGCUUCUCACUCCAACAAGACCACAGCAAAAAUGGGCAGGCAAAGUUCGUCACUUGUAAGCCACCUGAAGAGGGCAGUGAAGAAAUUAAACCUCAUUUUACUUGGCUUUAAGUUAAACCGAUGGAAAUUGGCUUCAAUCCUUGCUUGUACUAACAGAGCUUCUGCAAGGCAGUGCUUGAGCUUCAAUGACAGUUUGGGUUUGUAUGGCUGCAUUGAAGAUGAUAAGGCCGAUGAGAAUCGGUGUUUUAGACGGGUUCUUAGCACAAGGACCCAUGAUCGCGCUUCGGAUGAUGAUGAUGAUGUUGAUCACCGGGCUGAUGUUUUCAUUGCGAAUUUUCGUCGUCAGCUGAGGUUUGAGAGACAGGUUUCUUUGGAGUUAAGGUACUGCAGAAGGGAUAGCUUCUAGAAGAAAUUAGUUAAUUAUGAAGGAAGCUUCUAAAAUGAAUGGUCAAUUGGUCAUGGUGUGCCAAAGAACCAAGGAUGAUAAUGUGAGAGACAAAGGGUGGCCUGGCCUCUAUAUGGGGCACCAAGAAAAGUAUCUCAUAUAUGGCAAAGUUCAGUUCUAAAUUCUUUUUGUCUUUCAUUUUUUCUUAUUGGGAUUUCGAUGUUUUGUUGCUGAUACUUUAUCAGGCAGCUCUCUCAAAUGGGAAGCAAUUCGGAUGUACGUUUCCAAACUUGAAUAAUAAAACUAUUGGUCGUUUAUGUAUACAAUUUAUUCAUUUCUGUUUUUGAUAUUAUAUGUGUAUCUAUGAUCACAGUUUACAUUCCAAUUUCGAAUCGACACGCGUGUGACAUUCAUUAGCUAUUUGAAAAUAUUUUGCUCACUGAUUCUGGCAAUGCAGUAAACUUCACAUGGAAAAUGCAGAUUGUCUAUAAUUAUCUAACUAGCUAGCAAAAAUUAGGCUAAAACUACUAAAAAGAAUGCAUAAUUAAUGUACAAAUUGUAUAAUAUAUCAUUAUACAGGUACUAUCAACAAAUUUCAUGUAGGGAAACAUACAAAUUCAAUGACACCCUCUAAAUCUAAAUGCCAAUGCUAAUAGAAAGAUUUGUCAGCAUUUCUAUCCAAUUCAAUUUUUUUCUUUCUUUAAUCUUUUAAUCCUCCACAUUACAUGUCAAUGUAUGUGUCAAUAUACAGAGAGUACAGAUUUCACAACAUCAUAUUGUAAAUGGGUUCAUUUGGAUCCUGAUUCAUAAUCUAUCACAGUCUCAAAUGCCCCAACCAAUGCUUUCACCUUGUUCUUCCUUUUCUCCAGCAACUUGCUUGCAGUCUCCUCAAUCACAUCAUUGUAUGCAGGAGCAGAGUCCUUUUUCCCUCCUUGUGAUCCCUCGCUUGUUUGGCUUGGCUUGGCUGUUUCCUCUGCUCCCUCAGCUGCCUCAGCUGCCUCAGCAACCUCAGCAGCCUCAGCAGCCUCUGCAGCCUCUGCAGCCUCUGCAGCCUCUGCAGGCUUUGCUUCUUCAAUUCCCCCAUCAGCUUUUUCUUCCCCUUCCUUCAAUGCAAUCCCUUCCUUCUCAUCCAAGGCCAUGUCCUCAACAUUCUUGCUUUCCUCCACUGCAUCACCAUCUUCUUCAUUCUCUUUUCCUUUAUCUUCUUUCACCUCAACUUUUGUUUCCUCACUUGCCAAACCCUCUUCUGGUUGAGCCUCACUGCUUUCAUCUAAUUUGUUCUGAUUAUCUUCCCCUUGAUGUUGUUCAUUAUCUGCAGGCUUCUCUUCUUGGACCAAUGCAUUUCCACUUUCUUCAUUUCUUUCCUCCACAGUUUCCUGCAAUUCCUCUGCAUUAACAGUAGAACUGUCACUAGUCUUGAGCUUCUCAUCCUCGCCGCCAUUAGCUUCAGCUUCUACAGCUGCACCAUGAUCAUCAACUUGCUCCUUCUCUUCAACUUUUGGGUCUGGAAGAACCACCUUUUCAUGUUCCUCACUCUCAAUCAUACCUACCUCUUCAACCUCUUGAUGAUCCAAAGACUCUAUAGCCUCUAGAUCGGCUUCAAGAUCGAGUGUUUGUGUUAUGUCCUCACUCUUUGGAGGUCUUGUUGAAGCUGUACUUUCCUUCUUGGCUGAACCACUUGUACUGCUCUUCUUCACACUCUUUGCAUACAAAAGCUGUGGCUUUCCGGCUCUAGCCGUCUUCGAAUUAGACCUAUCUAUACUGGGUUUCGGGACAUUGGAGCUUUUCGCUGUAAACGAUGAAGAUCGUAGCGAUGUGUCCCUUCCUGGUGAUAUCAGUGACUUGCGUAGUCUUGACGGUGAUGGUGGCUUGUCAAAAGAUCUUCUUCUACUCAGUGUAGGCUUUUGAGAUGAUGCAGAGUCUUCAGAGCCAUGUUUCUUGCUCCCAGCUAAUGAUGACUUGGAAGAAUUUUCAUGUCUUGAGGCACUCAAAGUAGGCCUCAGAUAGUUUGGGACUUGCUUUGUUGUUGAGGUUGAAGAGGUUGAAGAGGUUGAAGAGGUUGAAGAGGUUGAAGAGGUUGCUUUCUCAGUGCCUGCAGAAGAUGAAGACUUGGUGACUCUUUUGGUGUGGUUUGUGUGGGAGUUUAAAGCUGAUGUGCUCUUCUUCAGCUCCUUCCCUGAAGUAGUGCUAUCUUUAGCUUUUGUUGCCAUAUAUGUAUUGCUUGGAUUGAUUGAUGGCUGAUCAGCUGAGAUAUUUCAAAUGCUGCUACCUCCCUGCAUAUUUUUCUAAAGAAAUCAUAAGUUAGAAAAAAGUUCCAAUUGAUCAAUGUGAUAAAUUUAAGGCAUGUUCAUCUACUAUGCUAACAAAUGUAACAUAUCAAUUCAUGGUGAACAUGUUUACGUAGAUUGUCAAUUAAGACGACACAUUCAAACAAUUUUAUUUUAAUAAAUAACUUAAAUUGACAAUUUAAUAGCAUAAUAAAUGAGGUUUUGACAAAUGAAGAUUAGCUUCAAUAUUCCUUACCGUGAGCUAUCUUCAUUCUAACAUUGAAAAGAGAAAUAUCAUUCUAAAUUGUCAAUUAAGACGACACAUUCAAACAAUUUUAUUUUAAGAAAUAACUUAAAUUGACGAUUUAAUAGUAUAAUAAAUGAGAUUUUGACAAGAGAAGAUUAGCUUCAAUAUUCCUUACCGUAAGCUAUCUUCUUUCUAACAUUGAAAAGAGAAGUAUCAUUAAAAGCAGAGUCAGUUAAUACAAACAGGUGCCUAUAUACUAAUCACGUAUUGAAAUUGAUAGGAAGUGGGCCUAGGGGCCCAGCAUCCCAAUUGCAUGCUAAUGUUAUUUAUUGCUCUGAUUCACAUGGUAAAAAUGUAGCUCAGGCUCACCUAAGUCUGGACCAAAUCCUACUGCGUCAAAUGCAAGAAUCUAAGCCUUUAUGGGGAGGGCUUUGAUUACGCUGCAGGACCCGGAUGAAAAGAAUACCAAUGGGGCUAAAUUCAGAUGGGUCCCAUGAUCCCAUUUCCCAUUCAUUAGAGAGAGAAAGACUUAGAUUAUAACAUUCUUGUUUUGUCUCUGUAUUUUUCUUAGGUCCAUACUCUUUUCUUACGAACCAAAUAACAUGUUUUCUUUCUUUUGCUUCUUUUUGUGUUGUUAAAGGCAUCGCAUGUUCUCUGUAUAUGGUACAUGUAUUGUCAUGUUAUUUAGAAAUCAUAAAUAAUUUGAUUACCAAAUUUCAUAUACGGACUAGUUAUUUAGUCAAAACGGUGUAUUUAGCUUUUUAAAUCCAAAUUAUUUAAUCGAUAAUCUCAGAAAAUAGCUUACCAAUACAAUAAACACGGUGGGAGGUUUCGGCCAAAAAAAAUUCACCUAAACCGUGCUCACCUAAUAAUGCAUAACUAAAUCCACUUGGAACAACAGUACGCAAAGUAUAAAACAAAUGCUUUGCUGAUAGGGAGGGGGGAUCGUUUUUGUUGUCACCUAGCUUAGGUCUUGUCAGGUCGGUCUAUAUGACAAGAUUGCAUGCUUAUCCCCAUUGACAAGCAACCCAAAAACCCACACCACAAAGACAAAUUUGAAACUUACCAACAUAUUAAUUUUCAUAAGAGGAGAACAAGAACUCAAAGACAAUCGAAACUAAGUAAGAACAUAUGUCCAAAAUAAUCUUCAAAACACAUGUUAUGCUUCGCACAAAUGGCAAUAAAUUAAAAACAAAAUAUCCCAACUAAAAUCUUCCACCAUCUCUAGAAACCAGAAGUAGAAGCAAAAAAGAAAAGGAGUUGCAUAUGGCGUGAGGGAAUAUAUGAUGAGAAAGAGUAGAUUUGUAGGAACCAAAAAGAAAGAAAUGGGAGAAGAACAAGUUAACGUACCUUGAUUGAAGCAAAAGGAAACCCGAAAAUCUGAAAACACAAAAAACACACAAAAUGGAAUGGGAAUUAGAUGAAGAAAUUAAUAUAUGAAGGAAGAGAAAGAAGAGAUUGGUUGGAAUUGGAAGAGAAAUAAAGGGGAAUUAUUUCUUCAAGUUCAUGAAGAGAAGCGCGAAUUUCGUGCGCACAACACAAACAUGGGUGGUGGUGUUGGUAUGUUGCUAAUCAGAGGUUAGUUGGAGGCCAUGAUUUCAAUCAAUCACUCUUCUCAAAAUUCUAAUUUUGUUCCAAAUCCAACAAUAUUCUCGACAUGUGGCAAGGGUUGACCUUUUCAAUGGCAUUCAUAAUUUUAUUAGAAACUGAUCUUGGUUUCAUCGUAUAACAGAAGAUGUUAAAUGUGGGGGGCCGUUCAUCUACUAAGUUUUCUUCAAAAUUAAUAAUUUAGUUUAGUGGCAUUUAGUUUUCGCUUUGUUGGAGCAGAUAUUGUGUUACAUGAACCAAAAUUUGUUAUGUUGGAAAAAAAAAAUCUUAUUAUUAUUGCCAGUUGGGUAUAGCUUAGUUGAUUGAGGUCUUUUAUCUUCAUCUAUGUGGGUAGAAAUUCGAAACCUUUGAAACCCAAUGAAUAUUUGUAUAAGCUCCUCUCUCUCAAUCGCUUGUACUAAAUAAAAUUCUUGUUCUUAGAACAGUUAUCUUUGGAUUAAACCUAAAAAUGAAAAUGAGGUUGGUUAAACUUUUCUUAUAAAUCACCUUUCCAAAUGAUCAUGAAGAUUUCUACUUUCUUUUUAUGGGUUGAAAUAAUCAAAGACUUCCUAGGGAAAUAUAAACAAUAUUUGUCAAAACGAUGUAUGUGUCCAAACCAAAACUCAUGUGGAAAGGCCAGCUUCAUCGUUAAUGUUUGAAAACGAAAGUAUUCAAUUCGUGCUAUACAAUUAACAGUAUUGUCGUGAUAUACAAUUAAUAAUAUCGUUCCUGAAAAAUAAAAUAAAAAUAAAAAGUUUAGUAUUAAUAUUUAUUUUUCGUCAAAUAUACAACAAUAUUUUUCUAUUAUUAAAUAGAUACAAGGACAAAGGACUUGCCUUCCCAUUCAUUACCUGCAGAAUCAUACUUUCCCAAUCCAUUAAUAAAUUCAGCUUCUUUCAUAAUUGUGCUCUCUUCUUUCAAAUUUAUUUCUUUAAAUAAUUUAAUUUAAUUUUUUUUCAAUUGGAAAGGGGUUUCCUUUUUCUUUUUGUUUACUUAUAAUUUGGAUAAGAGAGCUGUUGGAUCAUGAUUGGUUCCUAACUUUGAUUAAAAUGUGACUGCGUACGUGCAUAAGUAUUUAAAUAAUAACCAAAGAUUAAUUAAUUAUAUUACACCACCAAAGCAUAUAAAUAAAAAUGAUGUGGCCCUAUAUUACAAUGGCAUAAAGCAUUAAGCCACGCUGUUUACAUUAUUUUUUUUAUUAUAUAAAAAUAAAAAUAAAAAUAAAAAUAAAGGGUAUAUAAUUUAUGUGUAAUUGUACAUAUGUAGUCCAUUCUGUGCCACAUCCUGCUUUUCUUUGUGCAGGCCAUUACCUAAUUAGCUCUUAAACAAACAUGAAGAGGGAACAUAAAGUUACAUCACAGGUAGUGGUGUGGUAGGAGGAGAUGAUCAUCACCUUUCCAUGCCGCACCUGGCAAACAUAUAGCUACUCAAAAUUUUAUUUAUUUAUUUAAACUACUCUAAUACAGGGGAACGGAGAUUCGGACUCGAGCGUAGAAAAACACACUAUAGUAGCCAAUUAACCUAACUUAUAACAAUUAAAAGUCUUUUUUAAGGUUGGUUUGAUAUCCGAUACGAUUUACUUACAUAAUUUUAAAUAAAAAAACACUAGUUUACUAUACCAAACAAAAAUUAUUUUAAAAAUCAAAAGAAAAUUCUUGAUCUAAUAACAGACAGAAAAUUAAUGCAAAAACAAGCGUAAUAUCACAGCAAAGAUGGAGACACAGUACGUGUAUUAGGAAAAGCUUGUUUUGCUUUAUUCUCAGCACCUAAUUAUUCUAAUUAAUUUAUUAAGAUGAUGGAAGACAGAAAGAUACGAUGGAAAACAUAUGAAAGAUGUGGAAGCAAAACGUCAUAAUCAUACCCAUAAAAUUCACUAAUAAGUUGCUUUAAUUUAUGUGCUUUAUUUAAGGUUUGAUGGGGAGAGAGGAUUUUAAAUUGGCCGUGCAUUUUGCAUGAAAAUUUUUCAUAUUUCUGGGAAAUGUUUUGACGGGUCACCAUUUUUUUUCUUGAAAAUAUUUGGAUCGAUGAUGCCGUGGAUCUACUUGUUUCCAGAAAACAAAAAGAUAUUGCUUAAAAUAUGAAAAUGCAUGAAAAAAGUGUUUUUGAACAAAAAUUUCGUGAAAAUGGGUGAUAAAAAAAGAAGAAGAAAUAUUCGAGAAAUAAAGUGAGUGGAGCCACAAAAUAAAACUAUGUCCUGCUCACCAUAUUCUCCCUUGAAGAUUCUGUGGGAUUUAUCCUUGACAGAUUCACGGAUUUUGUUUUUGUGGAUAAAAAAACUUGUGUACUCAAAUUCUCUUUUUUUCAAAAAAAAGAAAAAAAAAUUCAAUUUCUUGUCCAUAUGAAAGGAAAGAUGCUAGCUAGGAAAGGUACUUAAGUUCUUGUCCAUUUGAAAGGAAAGAUGUUAGAGAUAUGCAUAGGCAUGAAGAAAAAGAGGAAAUAUGUUACUACCAUUGUUAGGUUUUCUAAUAAGAAUUAUGGUACAUUUGGUGUGCAAGUGAACACAAUUCCUAUUAGAAGAUGUGUUUGAAGUUCGAAUGCUCAUUUUUCAUUGAUUUUUUUUUUUGUUUUUUGUUUUUAAAGAUUGGUUUUAUGGCGAAAUGAUUUAAAUGAAAUUAAUAUGAAAAUAUUCAUUUAUAUAUAAAUGAAUAGUUCUUACAAGAUUUAAUUACUUAUAUUUAUAGGGAAGCCAACAUGGUACUUGAUCUUUUAGCAACCAAAAAAAGGCAUUACUGCAAUCAUUUUUGUAUUUGGUUGGCUCGUUUGGGACUAUUCUCUAGAAAUCACUUCUGCUUAUAAAUACUUCUAGCAAAAGCACUUUUAUUAUAAAGAUGUUGAAAUUUUUAUAAGAAAUCGAAGUGCUUCCUAGAAAAGCACAUAGUAGAUUUUUCUCCAGAAAGCACUUCUAUUGCUCAAAAGUACUUUUGAAUUUUUCUGCCAAACAUUGUCAAAAAUGCUUUUGGUUAUCAAAAAAUAUUUUAGCCAUUCCAUAAGCACUCCCAAAUGUUGGGAAAAGAAACAAAACACUCCCAAAUGGAGCUUAAUAACUUUCAUCUGGAUAUCGUUACUAGAGUGUACCUUGACUUGUGUGGUAUUAAGAUCCCCGGAAAUCUAACUUUUAAUCUACUUUUGUUUUAUAAAUGAAUAAAUAAAAAAAAUAUUAUUAUGAUUAAAUGUUCAAAUAACUAAAAAUCCUACUCAUUCAAUAAAAGGUUCGAAAACACAAGUACAUGGAGAAAUAUGUAGAUUCCACAUAAGUGGAUUCACAUAUAUUAAAACCAUCUAUCUGAUAAGCAAGUGAAAGAGACCUACUUCAAGUCUUCAACCUCAAGGUGGUUUGGAAUUUACUUGGACCUUAAAAAAAGAUUAAAUAAAACAAAACACUCCUAAUUUAAAUAAUUAAAAAGAAAAAGCCACAAUAGAAGAAAAACAUAGUUGAAGAUUGGACGGCGGCUGAGAUGGUGAAGUUGGUAUGGGCCGUGUGGGGUAAUAUGGUAAACACCUGCAAGUCCCACAGAAAGAGGUUUUAUACUAUAUAACACAGCCUUGUUGACCAUGUCGUCACUGUCCUCCAUAGCCCUCGAUCUUUGAUCCUUUUUCUGAUCCAACGGCUCAAAUCUCUCCCAUUAGGACGGCACUUCACUUUGGUUGUUGUUCCUAGUUAAGCUUCCAAAGCCAGAAACUCAAACCGAAAAAAAAAUAGAUAAAAUGAAAAAUGGAAGUCCAAAAUGACAAGGGACUUCUCUCUCUAGGCCUUGGAUCAUUCACACAGACGUUUUUGCCUCCCUCUCGCUCCCUCUCUCUCUCCUAAGAGGAAAAGCUUCUUUUCCUCUCUCUCUCUCUCUCUCUCUCUCUCUCUCUCUCUCUCUGUAGAGUCUAAAGACUUCAACUUUUGGCUUCUGGGUAUUCAAAGGAAGCAGAAGAACACGGACAAGGAUUAGGUAGAAGCAGAACAAAGAAUCAUCAAUUAUGUUUUUUUAACACCUAUCUGAAUUCAAUGGUGGUUCAAUUAUAUUGGGUUUGUUUUAUUUUUUCAAUAUGGUUUAGCUUUGAUAAUCAUUUCUGGUAUAUGUUAGAUGAGUCUUCUUCACUUUUUCCAAACACCUUCGUUUUUCAGUUAUUUUUGUCUUUUAAUCAAUAAUUAAACACCCUCCUUUGGGAAAGCCUGGUAUUGUUUUCAUCCGUUUGGACUAUUGGAAUAAUUCUUAUCAUUUUACGUUUUCUCUUCUUCUAUCACUUGUCUUUUUUUCCUUUUUUGAUGAGGAACUCUGAUCAUCAUCACGGCCUAUUUUUUCUGCUAGUUUUUCUUUCUUAUCAAUAACAAUAAGUAUUGUUCUAAGUCCAAAACUGAAAUUUUCUGUUUGGUUUGUUGGAAUAUAUAUGGAGGAGAAAUGAUGAUAACUUUCUUUUCCCUCCUUUUCAAUUGUUUUUGUUUUCGAGAAAUUUCAGCUUUUUUUUAAUCUUUUCAUGUCCUUAAAUCACGGGGAAAGAGUCUUUCGGGAAAAUAGAAAAUAAGAUCAUUUGUGUGGAGAAUAAUUCUUGAAAAAGCGUUUCCUCACAACAACUAGAGACCCACUUUUUUGGGAUGAUAUAUGAGGCAUGUGGCCAUCUGGGUCCUUUUUUUCCUCAUUCCUUUGUUCCUUUUUAUGUUUUCACACAAUCAAAAUUUUGGGUUCUCUUUCCUAUCAAAAAGACUGUAUUGGGUUCUCUUCUCUUUGUACCAAUGACUCAACUAAUGGUAACAGAGGUCUUGAUAUCGUUGUUGUGCCUUGUUAAUCCUUUUUCAUGACUGUUUCAUACUCCUAUGUAAUUAUCAUUGCUUGUUUCAGCUUCUGAUAAUCUGAUUUCUGGCAUGUUGCAGUUUUUUUAUAUUGUUGAUAUCUGGUGUAUUGCUAGUGCUCUGAAUUCUGCAAUUGUUUUCUAUAGUUUUGGACUUGGGAGUUUUUUUCUUCUUCUUAAUAGUGGAAUAUUGUAUAAAAAAAAUGAUUGUGGUAAAGUAACAAAUUUCUGUGACAAUGUUAAUGAAAUCUCUCUGAAAUGUCGACUUUUUUAAGGUAAAAGAAGGCUUAUCCUUUAUAGCUGAGUAAGAAUUUCAGGUAUUUAUAGUAGCACUUCUCAAAAUGUAACUAGGGGUAUGUCUUCGGCCAAUGUAACUGACAACAAAUAGGAAACUGUUUGGUGGGCUUUUCUACUUCCAGCAGAGGAAAUGGAUCAAUAUUUUUGGCCUACAGUUUCAUUUAUCAUCAAAAUAUCUUGAAAUUUAAACCUUGAUAUGCUUGAAAUCUGAACCUUAAUCCUUUAAAGAAUCCAAUUUUUGUUCAUUUUAUGCUAGUGAUUUUUCCUUCCCUCUGUAGAUUGUUGGUUUACAUUGGAUAGUGUGUUCCAUUCCAUACCGAUGACGUAAUGUGUUAUUCAUUUCUUUGUGAAAAUUUUGCUUGCAUAUGAGUAUGACACAUGAAACAUAUUUGUUUUGUUUAAGUUUCUCCUUUGCAGUUGUUCAUGGGAGUAAUAGCUAUGAAAUGUCUGUCAUCUUCUUGUUUCCUUGUCUUUCCCCUUCCAAAGAAAUUUCCAAUUCUUAGUACUAAGGUUUCUUUGAACACUAUAUGAUACGUCACCAUCAAAAUCUAGAUUGUGUAUCACUAACAAUCUGCAUAGGAACUUGGAAGUCUAUUGUCAUUUUACUUUUGAAAUAGCAAUGCUGAUCUUAAAUAUUUAUGUUACUGUUCUUACAGAAUUGAAGGACACAAUCAACAUACAUGGAUGAGUAUUCCGGUAAAAGAGCUGUCAAUAGGCUUGUCUCUAAAAAGGGAUCUGGUCUUGUUUUGAGGGAAACUCCAAACAGAGACCGCAAUGCUCAGCUCUGCAGCCGACUGGGAUGUAGUGGAAGAUUGAACACUGUGAAAGGUGCUCAAAUUGAAAAGGCUAAGUCAUCAUCAAGGCCUGCAUUCCGCAGCACUUCAAGUGGGAAAGAGAUAAUUGGAAGUUCCUCUAGGUCUUGCAUUGCUGUUGGCAACACAAGAAAAUCCAUAACAGAACCUUGCAAAAAGCUAUCUUCUAAUUUGGAAACAGAUUCAUCUGAAACCAGUAGUGUUCAGGAUGAUCCUGAAGUUUCAGAGCUUGCUCCCCCACCUGGAAAGAUUCAAAGAGGGCUGCACCCUGAACCUAAAAACGCUGAGUCCAGUGUGGUCACCUUGAUGGAAGUUGGAAGCUCUGAUGUAGCAUCAAAUACAAGAUCGCGAAAGAGUUUCAAUCAGAGAUCUGGAUUGCGAAACCAAGAUUCCUUAGUUGGGUCUAAUGUUUCUUCGGGAUCUAAAAACACCAGCCAAGCAACACAGGCUAGCACAACCAGGAAUGGUUUAAGAAAUCUAAGAUGCAAUUCAAUAUCCGAUAUUGUCCCGUCCAGUUGUUCGUCAUCAGAUUCAAGCCUCAAUAGAAGAGAGACCAUAAAGAAAAGAAUUUCUGAAGGAGAAAGUAGCUCUGCUGCUAGGGGGAAGAAGAUGAAUGGGUCAUCAUCAGCGGGACAAAACUCCAAUUCUAGCCAUGGCAUCUCAAUUUCUGAUUCAAGAAGAGCUAGGAAUAUGCCUUCUAACAGGGAUAAUGGUGCUGCAUCAGUUAGGACUCGGCGAACUGUCACUGGUCACUCGAGGGGAAGGCUUUCUAAUCAAGGAAGUGGGAACAAUUUAUCAGCCAAUGGAUCCCCUGUAGUUGGCCCACAGACGUCUCAACCUGAAAUGUCUAUCAACUUGAAUUCUCCUAGUUCAUUACAACAGUUAUCCCAUGAAGCUCCUUUAAUUCGGCCAAAUUCUUAUAGUCGGCCAGGUAGUAGCAGUGGGAAUUUACAUAGCAUCAUGCGAGCUGGUGCUGCAGAUGUUGGCUUUUCCCGCUCUCUAAUGAAUCAGGAUGGACUGCGACGCUACAACAUGGAUGGGAUUGCGGAGGUAUUAUAUGAAAUUUUUAUGUACAUUUGUGUGGUCUUAUGACUUGUUGCCUUGUUGGAGAGAUUCACAAAAGAACUGAUGUGGUAGUGUGGUUUCAUUCUUUAAUCUGUCCAUUUCACAAACUGUGCAGGUAUUGCUGGCGUUGGAGAGGAUUGAACAAGAUGAAGAGCUAUCAUUUGAGGUAGUUAUUAUAGAGUUUUUAUGUUCACUUGCUUUUUUUGGGUCAAAUAUGUUCACUUAAUUGGUUGAUUGUUCUUUAACUGUUCUUUUUCAUAAUGCAGCAAAUACUUGUUCUGGAGACCAAUUUGUUCCUGAAUGGCCUAAACUUCUAUGAUCAGCAUAGAGACAUGAGACUGGAUAUUGAUAACAUGUCAUAUGAGGUUUGCUAUUGCUGCGCACUGCAAUUCAGUUUCCAUAGAAAUUAUCCAUAGUAUCUCUCAUUGUUCUAUUUUGUUUCAAUACAAUGCUGGCGUAGUCAUUAUGAUGCAUCUAAACUUUUUAUUAUCAUCAAUGCCUCGAAUAAAUCAAUUCAAAUAAUCUACUAGUGGUGGGUUCAGAAUAACACAAUCUGGGGCAACCUUAUUACGUUCAGCUGUUUCCUUUACAGUAUUUCACUACUUGGAUGGCAGGAAUUAUUAGCUCUAGAAGAGAGGAUGGGUACUGUCAGCACAGCAUUGCCAGAAGAAGCAUUGUCAGAUUGCCUUAAGAAAAGCACUUAUCAGUUUACACCUCUAGAAGAAUCAUCCAUAGAAUGUGAUGGGAAAAAGGAUGAUGUCAAAUGCAGUAUCUGCCAGGUCUUUUUCCCGUUCUGAUUUUAUUUAUUUUUCUUAGAAGCACCUCUGGGCCUCGCUAGUAGUGGUUCAUGCAUGAGCUGAAACACUGUAGCUAAAAUUGUAACUGCAUUUACCUUAACUUAGCCGCUCCUUAUUCAACUAAGGCUAAAGUUAGUUGCAGGGUACAAGGAAAACAGAAUUUACAUUGGGCUUUAAGAAAAUUUGGGCACUAAGUGAUUAUUUAAGGCCAAACUAACCGGGUUGUCUCUAGAAAUUUCACCCUAAACCUGCACUAUCCCAAGUCAGUUCCUUGGUUAACUCAGAAGUUAGAACUAGCUCAACAUGAUUCCAAAUGUUAUUUAACAUCCUGUAAAGUUUAGAGUGGAUGUAAUUGGAUAUACUUCUCAGCACUUAAUUUGUUUUUUAGGUGCACCAUUUGAGUCUGAUUCUUUAUAUGUAGAGAGUAAUUGUUGUUGGUCUAUCUUUGUUUUUCCAGGAAGAGUAUGUUGCUGGAGAUGAAGUUGGAAGGUUACAUUGCGAGCACAGUUUUCAUGUUAACUGUGUAAACCAGUGGCUACGGCUUAAGAAUUGGUGCCCUAUAUGCAAGACAGCGGCAGCACCCUCGAAACCUCCACCCUCCACAUAAAUUUAAUUAUUAAGUCAUUUGGAGGAGAGACCUUUCUCAUUGUACAAAACUUGCGUCUCUUCCUUUUCUUUUAGCUCUUACCCUUGUCCAUGUACAUACCAAUUCUCUUUCAUCCCAUUCAACUAAUAAAUCCAAGCUGUUGGUGUUACAGCGGGAAUCUGCAUUCACUUGUGGAACUGUGAAUACAUACAAAGUGGUGCUGUUCUUCAAAUACAUUUCUUUUUCCUUUUUCAAUUUAGUUUGCAACAUUUGGAUGCAUGACAUGUCGGAUUUUUAGUUUUCCCAACUAUUUCUGGCAGUGAUCAGUAUGCAAUGCUCCAAACUUCAUAUGAUCUUCAACAUGCAGCUCCCUUUUUCAGUGCAGAUUGAAUGCUGCAUGGAAAUUUGGUUUUUCUUUUCUAUAAUCAGAAUUUACCAGUUAUUUUUCGAACUUGAACUUGAUUAAAAUAAACUGAUGCACACACUUCUGAGUCUUUCUGCCAUUUCAAAGACAAAUGAGGUUGGUGCUGUCUGCCCGGAACACUAGGGUACCAGUAUAAGAUAUUGAUCUUGGACAAAUUUUGAAAGUGAGGUUGGAAAAACACUGAUUGAAAUUCCAGUUCAACUCGAAUAGAUUUGCCAAUAAUAUAUGUUCAAGAAAACAUUUUGGUAUUGUGAUCCAAAUACCCUUCCAUGAUACAGAUAUUAGGUAAUAAUGUUAGCAGUCUUCUCCUGCUUCCUGAUCUCAAUCACAAACUGUUCAGAGCUCUGUUUUUAUUUUUGUGGGAAGAAUCAAAUAAUAUUCAUGGGAUGUCACAGAAUCAUUUUUCUUUGCAAAAGAUAAAGAGGUAACCCCUAGAAAAGGCUCAGUCGGUACUGCUCGGAAAUGUCACGUAUAGGCCAACAACAUGAAUAUCCUAAGAUUCCAAAGUGUUGCCUGAGCCACAGAGAAUAAAAUACGAGUAUGAAAGAAGGUUCUUACAAAACUCGACAGGCAAAUUCAUGGUUAAUAAGAGUCUCGUUGACUUGAUCAUCACGGAUUAAGGACAUUAUGGUCACUUACCAUUAGAUUUAAUCUAAUGGUGAAUACCGAUCCGUGAUUUUUUUUUUCAUUAGAAACACUGCCUCAAUGGGUGUGGAACCCACAAAAUUACCCCAUGACAAUGCAGAAAUAAGAAGAAGAAGAAGAGAGAGAGAGAGAGAAGAAAAACCCAAGUCGCAGAGACCCCUCAACUUGGUCCUCAACUAGCAAAAUUGAAAGAUAACAUAAGCUACCGCAGUGGGAAAGGAGAAAUGUAACAUAUAGUGCAAAACCAGGACAUUUCUAUGAUGCAUUUUAGAACUUUCUUCAGAGCUUUGUCCACUUCGGAAAUUCAAUAACUGAGGUCCACAUGUCUCCAAGCUUCCAAGUUCCAAGUAACCAUGGCCUUGUCAAAUGAAGACACAUCUCAGACUGGUUUAGUGGUUUUUCCACUGAAAAGACUCCAACACCAGCAGUGACGUAGGAUGAUGUCAUAUAAUGAAUGCUACUCAUUAAACAACUAAUGACCAACAGUUCCAAAGACAAGUCACCUAUGAUCCCAACAACCACAUCAGAUGGUUCAAACCAAUGUAUUUGUCCCUGAGAUUCUGUUUGCUUCCAUUCUCCCAUCCCAUAGCAGCACAAAUGAUUGGAUUUUCAUUAUCAUCAGCUUUAUAAACACGUGUAUGGGUUGUGAGUCAUUUCAACAAUAACAGAUAUCAGAUAAAGAUUAAUUUGAAGCUUUCCUAGAAAUUGCAGAACAAAUAUUUAAUGAAGAUGCAGAAAACAAAGCCUCCUGUCCUGUGAAGUCAUGCAUUUUCAAUCUAUAAAGCAGCCAUCCCCCAGUUCCCAACCUAUCCUAGACAGGCAAUUCAAAGAGUGACCAAUCAGAAACCUGACCAAUCGGCCAAAAGAAACAUCCGGACCUGACCCAUCAUCAGUCCUGUUAUUUUUGGUAGCAAACAGUAAACAACUAAAACACAAUUAAAAGAAAGUUACAUAUAAAACUAGAAUUGGAAAUACCAAAAUUAAUGUUUCAUGAGUAGCAGAAAAGAAGGCAGGAAGAGUCGGAGAAAGAAAAUUCAUCUGUACAUGUACAAACUGAUGAAAUGAAAAAGAGAGAACACAUGGGGGCUACGCUUAUUAGCAUAAAGUGAUAAAUCCAAGAAUUAAUUUCCAUACCUAUAAGAGGAUUGAUUAGGACUGAUUAAGUCAAGAAUUGAUACCAAAACAAUAUCCAGAGCAGUACCAUUUGUUCAACAUUGAUUACAUGGCUUGAUGCAGCAUUUACCAUAUGUCCCAUACUCACAUUGCAGACAAGUAUAUAGAUCUGCAGCUCGAUACUACACCGGAAUUUGAUGUGCACAUAGCAACAGAAUGUUCUUAUUAGCACUGUUAUCCUUUUCCAUUUUAGUUAUAGUCUUCUAGAUAUAAUUUAUUCAUUUUUUGCUUAACUCCUCAUGAUGAAGCUCAAUCCGUCACGGCUAGUUUUUCAAAUUUGAAACAGGGCAACAGCUGAAUUGGAUUCCAGUCCUGGUCGUGUAGAAAAAAACACUUCAUUUUUUAUCAGCAAUAAUGAGAUAAAAACAGCUUACCAAUCAAAAAUCAAUUGUCAGUAGUUUCAGACAUGUGAGUGAUUGUGUUUCUGUUUUUGCAUGCUGAAGUAUACCCACCACAAUUAUUUGCACGAUCAAUGGUUGAAUAUACAUUCACAUAUCUCUACGAGAACAUCUGAGUAGAGGAUGAUCAUUUGGCAGCUGGAAAUUUUGAGAACUAAAUUCAUGCCAUAAGGCCUUGACCCAAAAAAAAAAAUUCAUGCCAUAAGGACAGCUCAAUUGAUGUCAAUGUGUUAUUGAUAUUGAAAUUUCAAUCAAUUCUAAGAUUCUAAAAAUACAUACAGAGCAUACUGCAGCUCUUACACAAGCGAUUGUACCUCUCACCAAGCUACAGAACAGUAUCCCUGCAAAAUUUUCUUAUAUUUCCUCUUCAUUGGCUGCAAUUACAGUGAAAUCUUGAGAUCUGGUGUGAUAGCAAAUACAGCAGCAUCUACGUUAAACAUACAACAGAACAACCAAACAUGGGCAUUCAGUUUGAAAGCACCCCUUGAUUGGUUAAGUUAGAUAAUUCUGGAUCAGUUCUGGCUCCGCAGCAAGCAAAUUCAGACAUUUGAUGCUCAAACAGAUGAUUUCACCUUGCGAGACCCAAAACUUUACCCACUUAGGAACCAUCUGGUGCGUCCUGGCAAUGAGAUAAGAAUUAUUUGUAUCAAUGAUCUCGAACAUCUGGUGGUGUCAGGACCUUUGAACCAGAACAGACCGACCCAACCACAACGUUGGGAUGAAUAUAUCUUCACAGGGAUGUUUCAUUCCUCGAAUGCUUGCAUACAAAUCUUCUCCAGCAGCAAUGACCAGUCUUCUCCAAGUUGCUGUGGAUUUAGCUCCAUUGCAACCUUAAAAUCAAGCAAAGAUAUUGAACACCGUGGUCUUUGCUCUUCCACGGGGCCACUGCCACUCUGCAUAUGCAAGUGAUUGCUUGGCCACAUGCCAUUGAUGAUCUUUCCUUGAAUCUGCUGCUUUGGUGCAGCACUCUUUUUUGGCUCUGAUGUAGACCUUGCUCCCACCAACUCAACACAGGACCUAAUCAAUCGCUUUAAGUACACAUCCAACACAUUAUUCAGCAUAUUGGCACAUUCUGUAGAAACACCUCCAAGACCCUGUGCUGCAGCAAUCUGCUCCAUUCGUUUUCUAAGCGUCUCCGAAUCUGACAAUCCCCCAUUGUCAUAAUAGCUAACGAAAUCACAGCUGCUACCCACGGGCAAAGCUUUGCGGGCCCCACCUAUGCUGGCUGGGUAGAAUGGGAUCCCAAGUGGCGCAAGUAGAGGACUUCUUGAGAAACUUAAGCGGUUUGAUUGUUCCACCUCUUCCUCAUCUUCAAUAACAGCUAAGUUGGCCUGGUCUUUGCUGUGUAUCCGUGGUUUUUCUAUGGGUUGCCGAACUGCACCAUCUCUUUCACUCUCAGGUAGCUCAGCAACUGUUUGAAGAUGCUGCGUUGGUCUCUGAUAAUCAUAUGGAUGCACAUCCCCAUUUUCCACAAUAACCUUACUGCCAUUGUCCUCUGAACCCAUGGAUUGAUGUGACACACUAUCGACCUUCCCAUUUGGUCCAAGUGGGCUUGGUCUAUCCCUUAGCUUCCGAUCACGUAUCCCGGACCUACCCUUCCGUGGGGACACUGGCAAAACCCCAUUCUGCCAAACGGGUACAUUUUGAUUUUGAUUUGGAAAGAGGGUCCCACUUUGCUCCUGCCCGUCUUCUCUACUUGGAGAACUGUUUGCAGCUUGUAUCCCAGGUUUUGCAGGAACUGAUGAAUGUAUUGGUGGUGGGGUCUUGGCUUGGCAUGCAUUCUUCAAGAUUGACCGUAUAAAAUGAUUGUGCAGUGGCAAAUUCUCACUUCCUAGCACCCGGUGACACAACUUGUCAAAUUCCUUCUUGCUCAGCUUCUGACUCAACAACCUAUUCAAGUAAUUAAAGUACCGCUUUGACCUCUCGGCCCCAAUCCUCUUCACUAUCUGCGCUUUCAAAUCACCCAAAUCAAUUCUAGAGAACUGCUGAGGUUGCAUUUCUCAACAAACAGAUUCAUACACCAUCCACAAGAAACUGCAAAUCCCCCAGUAACCCCACCAGAAGCCAAAUUACCGUUAAUACUGUUUCCAGAAAACCCAGAAUUUGAACUCCUCCAUAUCGUUCAUUGCAAAUCAAUCUCAACACUCUGCAUAUCCCGACAAACAGAGGCACACACCAUCCACCAAAUCAAAAUAGCCCCCAAAACCCCCAAUCUCAAACUGGAAUACGGUUACCCUUGUUUCCAAACGACCCCAAAUUGUCCCACCCACAAACCACACAAUGCAAAACCAAAUCCCAUCUUCUCAAGACCAAAACCCUAGAGAUCAACCCCAGUACACAGCUCGCUAAAUCCCAACAAACAGACACAUAGGCAAGCUUAAAUUAUUGAAAACCAUUAUAAAUCAAAAACCCUAACUUUGAAUCACCAAAAUUUGGGUUCAGACGACCAUACUCUUUACAAACUCCAAUGAACCGUAAAUUACACCACCGCGCCAAUCCAAACCCAGACUUUAUUUCACGCAAUUCACAAGCUUUCAACUUCAAGACACGAAAUUUGAAGUUCAGGGAAUGAGAUCAGUGAAUUGGACGGAUUGAAGUUGAGAAAACAGAGCUUGAAUUGCAGAAAAAUCGAAUUGCAGAGGAACAAAAAGGCGCAAUGAAGCGCCAAAACAAAAUUAAAUAGUAAAGCUUGGGGAGUGUGUGUGAGAGAGGGCUUUCGAGAUUGAUUGAACUCUGACCUUAACGAGCUCGGCGAAUUGCAGAGAAAAUCGAACCUUAGUGACUUCGGAGCUUUGCCUUUCGCUUUCUCGCUCUGUCUCUCUUCGGCUCUUUUCCUCUCUUUUUUUCUUUUUUCUUUUUGAAAAUUUCACUGCUUUUUUAUUUUUAUUUUUUGGUGUUGCUGAUUUAUAUUCGAACUUCGCUCUGUGUAGCUCUCGAUCGCUUCUGCUAAUACUCUCUCUCUCUCUCUCUCUCUUUCUUUCUUUUGUUUUUCUCUCUCUUCGUUUCUUCUCUCUCGGUAGCUCUCACAAGGUCUCGCCUUGUAUUUUUUCUUUAUUUUUUUUCACAAGUGUAAAAGGAUUUUAACUUUUAAUUUUUAGAUUUUUUCUUUAUAUUAUUUUUCACGAUUUUUGAAAUUUGAUUUCAGAAGUUUUAUUACAUGCAAGUUUCAAAUCUUAGUGGUGUAUUCAAUUUAGAAAUUAGGUCGACAAACCAAUAGUAGUGUUGUGACAUAUAAGAGUGUAUAACCCAAAUAAAAAAGAUAAUGAAAUUGUAAAUAGAGUCUUUUAAUUUGAACAUGAACUUUUUUUCAAAAUUGAUUUUGUAUUUUAAUACACUAUUAUUUUACGUAUUUAUACUUUUAAAAUGAAGUACAUGUAUUUUGAUAUAUAUGCAUUUUUAAAUUAUUGAAAAAUUAAAUAUAACGGUCAUUUACUUUACAUAUAUAGAUAUAAAUGCAAAUAAUUUAUAUAAUAUUGGGCUAUUUAUGUAUUCAUACAAUUGAAUUUUUUUUUUCCUUUCCUUUUAGUAAAAAAUUAAUUUGACAAUUUUUGUAGUUAAAAUUGUAUCAUUCGGGAAACUUACGUGUCACGAGAUCAUUUUAUCUCUGAGCAUCUCACCCGAUGAGAGAUGCACAUAGAAAGAGGAAUUAUGACCUCAUUACAUGUAAGUUUCGGCCUAUCAAAAGAUCUUUAGUCUAUAAAUUGCUUUCACUUAGUUUGAGAAUUGUGAUUAUCCUAAUCUUCUAACAAACCAACUUGAGUUUGAGCUUCAUUUCUUGGUUUAAGACUAACUCACAAAAGUAAGGGCAAUAUUGAUAAUUUUUUAUAAGAAAAUGUAGAGAGAAAGAGGACAUAACCCACUAAAAAGGACAACAAGAAAAAAAGACACAAGUUUGAUAUACUUUUGAGAAAUUCUCUCAAAAUAUCACUAUUCUUGUAGUAAAUUUCUUAAAUAGUACUAUUAUUGUAGCAAACAAUGCUAUUAUAUCAAUAUUAUUUCGAUAUGAUGUUGAUACUAUUAAUAUUAUCUCAUUAUUUCGAUAACAAAUAGUCUCAAGUAAUAUUUUUAUUUAUUUUUUAGACAAAGUCUCAAAGAGCCUUGAUAUGACAUAAAUAAAGUAUCAAUAUUAUGUCAAUACUAUUGAUAUUGUUGAUUUUCUAUAAUAACAUUGUUAUUCGAGAAUUUUAUUAUAAUAAUAGUGGUAUUUAAAAGAUUGGACAUUUACAAGAUACUUUUGUAACGGACCAAUACACCUACAACAAAGAUACACAACAACUACUUAUUGAAUUCAUCACAAAUAUAUAUCGCCAUCGUCAUCCAUAGAAGUCGAAUUUCAGACCUCCUUCAAUCAACUGGAGACAAAUACAACUAGAUGAAAUACUAGUUAGUGAGGUGUGAUUGUUAAUUAAAUGUAAUAUUUUCGCAUGUAAGUUCAUCAUUUUUAAAUUUAAAACAAUUUUCAAAUUCAAUAUUAAAUACUUCUCGUAUAUUAAAAGAUAUUGAGAAGUGAAAAUUUUAACCAAAAAUUUCAAAAUUGCAUUGUAAUAUUAAAACUUAUUUUUGGACAAUGAACUAAAUGGCUCUACACUCGAAGGGAUCUAACGAAAAUGUAGAAGUCACAAUAUUUAUGAAUUUGUUCAAAUUUCGUACGUCUUUUGUUUUGGUGUCUAAAAAGAAAUUUUAAUUUCAUGUUUUUUUUUUCUCAAUAGAAAAAGGCAAAAAGAACAAAGUACACAUUUUAUUUUUCUUUGAAUGGAGGUAAGGAAAUAAUUCUUGAAAGAAAAAAAAAACAGAGAUGAACUUCUUACUAGUACCGAGUUGCCUCAUUCGGCCCUGUCUGCGAGCGAAGGACAUCGAACUCUACUUGGCGGCCCAGUUGGUUACCCGCCUUUAAUAUCGGGUCGGGUAGAUUUUACCCGAUUUCCAACGAAGCCCUAAUUUUGAUUCCGGCGAGCCAAUCCGAGCUUGUUUUUCUUCCCCCUUCUUCCCCAACCCCCCCGCGGCCCUUCCCCUUCUCUCUCUCUCUCUCUCUCUCUCUCUCUCUCUCUCUCUCUCUCUCUAUGUGAGAGGAAUGGAUUACAGCGACACAGAAGAGCCGUACAGGAGGAGACCGAGGAAAAUGGCUUAUCUUGGAGACUCCUCUCGCAGGGUAAGGUCUUUUGUUCAUAAUUCUUCGAUUAAAUUACUGUAAAUACAUAUUUUUGCUGAGAAAUUGAAUUGAUUUUUUUGUUUUUUUUUCAUAUUUAUAUUGAUUUCUUCACCAUUGCUUCAGUUACUGUUAUUUUCAAUUGUGUCGCUGCAAAUAUGACUUGUUAUGGAUUGCUGAGUACAAUUUCUGCUGAAUAAUGCAGCAAUUUGAAUCUCUAAGCGGACGUCCCUAUGCCCUAAUGGGAGACAUGGUAAUGGUUUUUACUUGUCACUCUUUUUUAGUGUGAUAUUUUAUUUUUCAUUUUUAAGUUCAUUGGAGUUUGGUUAUUGUGAUUGGUACAGUCAAUUUGUUGCUAUUAGUGCUUUGGUGUUGUGUAGGAUUUUAUCACAAUGUGGUACUUUUUUGUUGAUUUGUAACAGAGUUUUCUGCAAGAGGAAGACAUUUCGUUAGACGCGACACGGGCUAGAUGUAACAGUCUAUUUUCAUAUUUAUUUGUCUCCGUUCUGUGUUGCAUAUAUGUAUAAGAAUGUUUCUUUAUUAUGAAGCGGCUAAAGCUUUUCCUGUACUUGAUAGGGACAAAUGUUCUCAAACGGCAUAGUGACUUAGCAGAGCGUCUUUCUAGGUAAGGCUUUCUCAGGAAAUUUUUAACUCUUCAUUCAUCAUCAAGCUUUUGGUUAUUGUGAGAUCAUAGGUACUUUUAUGGAACUGUUAUUGCUUAAAAAUAUUAUGAAGUACUCAUGUUUUGAGUGACUUAAAAUUCCAAAGGCUUUCUUGGAGUCGCUCCUCUGGACUCAGUAAUAUAUGCGUUGUGUAAACUUUGUUCAUCUUUGUCGGACAUGUUUUUGGAGAAUUUCACUUACUAAAACCCUAUCAUUUUAGAGAGUAUGUAUGUAUGCAACAAAAUAGGAGAAAAAAAAUAUUGUCGAACAGUGGAAGAAGAAAGUAAGAAAUCUACUAAGAAAUCUUAUUGCAAAUCUAUGUUUAUAACUGCAGGCAUUUUAGAUGCUUUGGCCACACCCAAAAUGGAGUCCAGUUCCUUGAUUAUCUCAAAAAUGUGGGUAGCACUGUUUCUUCGUAUAUUUCUGUUUUGAGUAUGAGAUUGAUUAUGAUACGCUGGUCGUUGAAACUCACUUCAAAUAUCUUUUGGAAAAAGACCAAAAACAUUUCUGAAUCACGUGAUGCUUUCGUAUGAAUUUUGUGAAUUUUGGGCCUAUUAACUUUUUUUGGUUUUGGGCCUUUUUGAUUCAUCAUUCUUUUGCGUGCAAUUUUGUAUUCUUGAAAAUAACCAGAAGAAAUUGUAAUUUUAUAAAUUAGACAGGUUUGAUGAAUGAUAGGUGAAUUUAAGAAUCCAUUUCGACCUUGAGAUAAUUAACAUAGCCUUAUUAUGGUUCUUUCUUUCUUUGUGAUUAAAUGUCAAGUGCAAUAACAUUUUAGCUUCAACUGACUUUUGUGAUCCCAAGGGGUUUACUAAGCUGUUCGUCAAUGACCUUCAGAUCUUUUACUAAGCUGUGGGUAGCACUGUUUCUUCGUAUAUUUCUAUUUUGAGUAUGAGAUUGAUUAUGAUAUGCUGGUCGUUGAAACUCACUUCAAAUAUCUUUCGGAAAAAGACCAAAAACAUUUCUGAAUCACGUGAUGCUUUCGUAUGACUUUUGUGAAUUUUGGGCCUAUUAACUUUUUUUGGAUUUGGGCCUUUUUGAUUCAUCAUUCUUUUGCAUGCAAUUUUGUAUUCUUGAAAAUAACCAGAAGAAUGAUAAAUUAGAGACUUGUGUGAAUACGUAAUAUAUAUGUACUUAUUUGCAUACAUAUUUAAUACACCAGUGAAAAGAAAAUACUUAGUGACUUAUGGUUAUGCACCUGCGUUUUAUUUCUUUCUGAAAAGUGUGGAUAUUACCUGAAUUAAUCAAACAAGCUAAUCAUUUGAAUCAUUUGGAGGCACUUCUAUGUAUGCCUCCGAAGAAAAGAACUACUUGUUCGUCAUUUUUCCAGUUAUGUUUUGAAUUUUCUUGUAUUGUACAUAGCACCUUCCAUUUUCAUCAUGUGUUGGGGUUUAUAUAUUGCCAUGGCUGCAAACAGAUUGAUGCAUAAUAGCAAUAUUAUCAUUGUUCUCGAUGGACAUGUAUUUUCUCGUACUAAUGUCUUGGUGAUUCUAUUGAUUUAAUAGGGAUGCUGACAAGACAAUUUAUGAGCGUCUACAAAAAGAAUUUGAAGCUGCACGGGCUUUACAAACUCAAGGUAUCUUUGAAAAAAGAGCAAUGCUAGGCAUUCCACAUUUGUAUACCGCAUUGUGUACCACCUCUCUAAUAGAGGUGGAGCCCACCAAUACAAUGGGGCUCACCUCUUUUAGAGAGGUGGUACACAAUGUGGUAUACAAAUGUGGUAUGACUAGCAUUUUUGUUGAAAAAAAAGUUAUGUGUUAAUGCUUCAUUUCAAAAGUAAUCAGUAGUAUCUAGCUUUGCAUCACGUCAAGUUUCUUUUUCUUUUCUUCAUGGGUUCCUAAAUGCUGUUGGAGGAGGGCAAAGGUGGGGUGUGAUACCUCAAUUCCCAUAUCCUCUGUGUACUGGGGUGAUCUUAGGGCUGUAUACUGGUAUGAGGAACCCAACCAUGAUCAGGUUGUGGUAUUUUAGGUCGUGGAUAAGUGUGUGAAAUCAAUCUCAUGAUGAGGAUGCCAGCAACUAAAAGGGGAAUACUAUCAUACCCUGAGUCCCACAAAGGAUGUGUUGGAAUUACUAGUCUUGAUGGCUAGCCUGCAUUGGAAUUACUGUGGUUCCCAUUUCAGAGAUCUUAGAGAUAACUUAAGCUGAAUGUAUAAAUAACAAUAUAACUCAUCCAAUAUUCUAAAUGCUCUCUCCAAGUCUUCCUAUUGAUUAAAAGGUUGUGUAAGCUUUGUUUGUGUUAAUUUUUUUAAAUAAUUUUGGUUCACCUCCUCUGGUAUGGUUAAGAAGUAAAAUAUAUUUUUGUUGCAGAGAUUAAUUUGGAUGGUGAACAAUGGAAUGAUGGACUACUAGCUACAAUAAGAGAGCGGGUAUGGUUUUAUCCGAUACUUUAAAAGUGAUUGGGAUUUACUGUGGCUCCCUUUAAUCCUUUGAUGUUAGAAUUCAGCGAUUGAUUCGAUAUUCAAUUUUCUUUAGGCUGUUUCAUGUGUAACAUGAACAAAUGCCUAAUCUAAUUGAGUUAUAAUUUAAUCAGGUUCACAUGGAGGUUGACAGAAAGGCAAUGGCGGGAGACGUAAACAUGUUGCCUGGUCCUCAAAUCCAAGAAAAAAUUACUUAUAAAGUCGGAAAUAAGGUAAUUUUGGGAAGUUUAUUUUAAUCAAUAAUGGGGGGUUGGGUCAUGAUUAUCCAUAGCAUGGUUAGAGAAACUUAUAAAGUCGGAAAUAAGGUAAUUUUGGGAAGUUUAUUUUAAUCAAUAAUGGGGGGUUGGGUCAUGAUUAUCCAUAGCAUGGUUAGAGAAAUACCUCCUUUGAAAGGCCAAGACAGGGCUACUUGCAAACCAAGAAGCCAUUCUGGUUGAAGAAUAACUGUGCAUUGUUGUAAAUCAGGUCAAGAGAAUUUUAAUAAUUUCUUUUAAAUCUAGUUUCUAAAGAGUGAAAAUAAAUAAAAACAUCAAUGCCAGGAUCCAAGGAAGGUUGUUAAAGGAAAAUCUGGUUAAAAUCCAGUUGUAGUUUGUACAUAUUAGAUACCAUUAUACAUAUGGAAAUCUUUAUUUGAUAAUUUUAUUGAGUAUUGUUUUGGGGUGAGAGUUUUCCCGAAUAUUGUCUUAAUUGUGAACAGGUGAUUUGUUGUUUGGAAGGGGCUAGAAUUGGCAUUCUGUAUGAGACAUCUUAUGCAGGUAUGCUGUGAAGUAACUGAUUUUAAUUGUUUAGUAAUCCAAGUGUCUAGCUCUGGUAUCAUGUCUUUUUAGUAAUGUUAGCAAAAAGUAUCAUUUUUUGAUGUGACAUCAUUAUUCUGCUGCUUGUAAUCUUCCAUUAGAAAACUGAAGGUUGAUACUUGAUAAUUCAGUUUAUCAAGAUUGGUGUAACGGCUGGAUCAGUUCCCCUCAUUUUUUUGUUUCUUAAUUUAGUACUUUCUAGUAAUUUACAAGAUACCACUUGCACCUAGCACAAGUAUCUUGGUGGUAAAAUGAUUGUUUUAGUAUCCUAAGUUUGAAUAUAGGCCCUAGGGUCACCCACCAUUUGACCCUUUCAUUUUUUCAGUUGCCUAAUAGGUUGGCUUAGGGCUUAUAUACAUUAUAGACAAAACAUAUUUUUACUCUCGAGAAAGAAAAAAAAUCUUAAAUGAGGUUGUAAGCACAUUCAUCACUUUUGGCUUUAGCACCGGAGAAGAUGACUCAUCUGCAUCUGCAUCUGCAAUGGUGCAGGAGAACCUUGUGACCUGUACCAUUGUGUGCUUGAGAGCAAGUCAUUUCUUGAGAAGAUGACUGUCCUUGAACACACCAUUCCAUAUUUUUUGCCAUUACGAGAAGCAGAAAAUGAUCUUCUUUCUUCUAAUGCUAUGGUAAGAAUGGUUUCCUGCACUGGCCUUGCUGACUCAAAUAUAGUACCGGGUAUGAUAUUAAUCCUUGGUGAUCUGCUUUCAGAAAUUUAUAGAUUACAUUGGAGAGCUUUUGCAGUCUUACGUGGAUAGAAGGGAACAGGUAUGCUGUUGGCAUUUGUAAACAUUAUCGGAGAGUGUGUCUAAUUCAAAAUGUAUAAAUUAGAGUUGGGAGAAGGGUGUGUACCUCCUUUUUUCCAUCCCGUAUCCAUGAAAUAGUAAUAUCUGCGAAGUUCAAAUUAAAAUUGGAAAUGUUGAAAAGCUGGUUAGAGGGUUUUCUAUUUUGGAGGCAGGGAUAUAAGUUAUAACAGCUGUCUUGCAUUCCUUUAUCUUUGGGUUUCACCUAUUUAUCCCCACACAAUAUUUUCAUGAACAACAAAGAUUUAAUUUGUUACUACUUCAUCUUCACGGAUUGUCAUUCUUAUCAACGAAAAAUUUAUUGAUUGUCAUGCAGGUUCGGCUUGCCAAGGAGUUAUAUGGGAACCAGAUUAAAGAAAUUUAUUAUACCCUUCCCUACAACUUAAUUGCCUUUUCACUGGUUGAUUUUGAUUGGUUGGUGCAUUUUUUCCCCCUGCAUUAUACUUCGUAUUUGGAUUUUUAUAUUUUUAAAUAUCAGUGGAAUAACAUCUUGAGGUGCUAACUAUAUUAGUAAUUAAUCAUAUGUCAGACAUUCAUGUUCACGUGGGUGACUGAACAUAUUAGUAAUAGCUCACACAGUUUUGAAGUAUCCCAUACCCGUUCCUUAUAAAGGUGGGGUAUCUUUUGAGCUUGGAAAUUUGUUCCUGAAGCUUCCAAGUUACCAUAUCUGGCUUGUCUGGCAGACAAUCAAUAGCUUUUUCCUCAGUAGGACAAUGAUAAAUUUGCUCACUUCUAUGUUCCUUUGACAAGACAAAAGUAGUUGAUUCUGUCUGUUGCCUUCUAUCAUUUUCACAUGAUAUUGACUGUUAGUCAUAAAACUAAAUUACACCAGGUUGAUUGUCAUAUUGGUUGCAGGCAUGAUUAGAUACAUCCUCACAAAGAGGUUUCCAUCAUGCUGAAGAAUGUCUGUUUCUUUUUGCAGCAAGGUAAUAGUUAAGCUUAAAUAUGCGGAGCUUGUUUCCGUACUUCCAACUCAUGUCAGUGUGGUAGCAUGGCCAGUGCAUCAAUACAGGAAAACAAGUCUAAAUGCAUCAACCAUGAACAAAAAGGAAAACGGAUCCUUGGAAGGUCCAACUACCCUCUCCUAUGCAGAGGAUGCCUUGCAAAAUAUGAGCUUACCUGAAGGUAUUCUUUCUAGUUGACGACUUUUUUUGUUGCUUACUACUGCCAAUAUAAAUGAUAUUCAAAAUUUUGGUUUGUCCUCCUCAUGACACUUGACUAUUUUUUUCUUUUGGUCUAGGAUUAUGUUUGAAAUAUAACAAAGCAACCCGUUCCAACUUUAAUAUUAAGAUCAAAGAGAGUUUAAUGACUCCAAAACACUUUUGUUGGGCACUUUUUACAGCGCUGUUCCUGUAUAGGCUUUGCAUGCAUAUGCAUUUCUGAUGGUUUUUCUGUCUAUUGUGUGCUUCUACUCCAGCAUAUGCAGAGAUUGUGUUGAAUUUGCCACAAGCUCUUCGGGAUAUAUGUGAGGGGUCCUCUUAAUGCUACACCAGUUGGAACAUCUGAAUUUGUACAAAACCAUAGCAAAAAUGGUGCUGCUGGGAUACCUUUAGUUGUUUAGCAUUAGAGUACUAACCAAACUAUUCGUGAGACAAUUUUUAGGCUAAAAUAGCAGUAGGGUUGAUUUCGGCAAUUUGUAUAUUUGAGUAUCACCUACUCUUUAUCCCUCGGAAACAUCUGUAUCAGGCUGUCCGAUCUAUUUGAUUUGUGCCAUCAUUUUAGUUAAGGCCAUUUUAGACUUGAAUAAAUCUCGUUUCCAAAAUUAGAUGCUGCAAAAAAGUAUAGCUCCCAGAUUUUCAAAUUUGCCCUUGGCAUUUCUAUUUGCCUUUUCAGUUGUCUACAAAUAGACUUGCUCCCGUAUUUCAAAAACAACUCAAACAAUUCUACACCAUCUACAUUCUGCAGGAGAAGGUAAUUGAGACCAUAAAAUGAACCCGUUUCCCUCUAAAUCAUGGAUACACUGUUUUCUUAGCUAUGCACGCAGCUCCAAUAGAUCUCUGGUUGAUCAAACAGUGGAUUAUUGAAGGGAAUCCGAGACAAGUGUAACUUCUCACAUCUUCUCAAUGGUUCAAAGAUACCAAUGUCUUCAGCUUGUUGCAUUUUACGACGGCUUUGCUUCUGAAACUCCUAGGCAGGUUCAUAGAGGCCUAACAUGUGCCCAUCGAUACAUCGCACGGCCGCAACCUGGACACGAAAAAAACUGUUAUGUAACAACAUCAUUGCAUCCAGCAUAUCAAUAAUAAUGUACAAAUGAAUGAAUUAUGGCAUUGUCAAAGGUAUGUCUAGAAAUUUAGUCAUCACCUUCCCAUGGAUUUCGUAUUUGAUAGGACCGUCUAGUUCAGCUCCUAAUGCCAUCAACCUUGUCACUGUGUGAUUAAUGUCUGGGACUGUGAAAGACAAGAGUGAAGAGUACCCCUCCUGCAUCACAUGGUCACUAUGAAACUGCAUUAUUAGCAUCUGCCAUUUUCAAUUAGAGGCAAAACCCAGAUGCAAUUAAUUGUUCAAACAAACCCAUCUAGCCAAUGGACACAAGAAAAGCAUAAUGCCACCAUGUUAAUGGGAUCAAACCCCAAGAACCAAGACUUUCUGAAGUUGGGUUUAUUUUACUCAUCACCUUUUUAUCUUCUGAAAAACACAAACAGACGUUAUGCCUUUUUUAUGGCAAAGGGUGUGUAAAUAGCUCUUUUAGACAUACAAUCAAACACUUAAUAUGCAUUGAGAGCGCCUAGUCUCAGAGAAAGAAAGUUACUUGGGGGAAUGCAUGAGGGCAAGCUUGAGUGGCCCCGACUGAAGCUCAGCCCAGCGGAGAGUGCAGACAUUUACGGAGAAGUCCAAGCCUUGGGCGUAGAAGCGAGCGGCUUUUGGUACGUCCUUGUGCAACUGCAGUAUCCACCUAAACGACGCCGCUGCCAUUUCCCUCUCUUUCUUUCUUCCAAGGCCGCGCUUGCUCUGAUAGUGAUACAGAGAUUGAAGAAUUGGGAAUAGGAAUGUGCCAAUAGAAUACGACACGCCGUUUGGAUGGUCGCAUAUGGCCAAAGCCCAAAGUCAACUGAUGUUGCAAUAGUGGGCUAAAGUUAGGUUUGGGUCCAUGUGAUGAGUGAGCCCGAAGCUAUAAAGCUCAUAGUGGUCUCUCCUCUAAAACUCUAGCUGAAUAUGCAUAUGGCCAAAAAACUGAAAAAAUAAAAGGUGUCCAGUACAGAGGCUUAUCGAUCAAGUGGUUAAGAGUUAUUAUUCUCCCGCUCGAAAUCUUGUGUUCGAAUUUUCUCUCCCUCAAUAUCGCUUGACACUUUGUGUCAACCCCAAUAUCACUUGAUACUUUUGUCAAAAAAAGAACACAGACUGAAAAAGCAUUAAUUAAUUGUAUUUAUUUGUUUAUCAAUCGCAUGCGUAUAGGAAUAUGCUAUGCAACCAUGAAUCACAUGAGCAAGACAAGACCUGUUUAAUAACUUUAAUUAAGCAGAUAAUUUGUAUUAUAUAUUAUGGCUUUGUCUAUAUUUGUUUUGUUAUGCUAUUUUUUUAAAAAAAAAUUAUGACCUCCUUUUUUAAUUGUCCUAAAGAUGGAAGGGAAUAUAGGAAAAUUAUAUAACAUAUGAAUAGCCCAUGAUGCAAUUGGCAGCAAUUGUCAUUUGGCAAGACACAAGAAGGUUUCUUUUCUGUCUAGAUUGAACUAUAAUAAGAAUUCAACCAUGUGGGCUGCCUCCAUUCAAACAAAUCAAUAAUACUACAUUGUUACCAAUAUUUUAUUUUCUGGGUGAUCCAUGUGGCAGUGUUUCAAGGGUGCCUUUGUUCUUUUUUUUUUUUUGGUAAAAAAAAAAAAUUUGAGGGAAGGGAAACUAAACUUGGACCUCUUCCAACUGGAAAGAAAAUACCUAUGAAUCAAAAGUUAAUUGGUAUGGCGGUUGCAGACUAGAGAUCUCAUAUUCGAAUCCUAUAGCAUCUUAGUUCUGUAUGUGUGAAAAACUCAUAUCCCCUGUAGUUUAGACUAUCACGUAUAUUAUUAAAAAAAAAUUAUAAACCGACCGCCAUUUAAAAAACAAUACAACAUUCUCUCACUGAGAUUUUAUUUAUUGGGUAAAUCUUACUCUCACUCAUAUGCAUCAUCAAUUGUACCUCAAAGUCCACAUGCCAACAAAAAUGAGCCAUAAAGCAAAUUUGGAGGCUAGCCAAGCAUCACAUUGUGCAGAAACUAGUGAGCAGUUAUGGUCUCAUAGAUUUCUAAGUACCAGAUGCUUGUCAUGUGCCAAAUAGAUUAGGCACAAUGACAGAGCAGCAGGAACCAAAAUAACUUUACUUUUAAUCUUUCAAUAAUGCCAGAGCCCCAAGGACAAGCCUAAACAUCCAAAAACCCAAACACAUCUUUAUGAACAUGCCAGCCAACAUGCUUGUCAAUUUGUCAUGCACCCAGUUUUCAAAUCUACCUCCUUUUUAACCCAAGCAUCCCUUUAUGGGUUUCAUUAUUAUUAUUAUUGUUAAAUAUCAACUCUUAUUAACUCCUUUUAAGAUUCUUGACAGACAGGGCCAACCCACCUCAUAUCAUUCUUAUAAUACAUCUAUAUAUAUUUAUGCAAUCAAGAAACUGACUUGAAACAAUUCCAACUUCAAGCAAUGAAUGUUCAAAGCCUUUUCUCUCUUCCUUUACUCUUUCUUCUUCUUGUCCUCUUGAACUCAGCUCAUGCUCAGCUUCAUGUAGAACAUUACAGAAGCUCAUGCCCAAAUGUUGAAGCAAUUGUGCAUGCUGCAGUCAAACAGAAGUUUGAGCAGACAUUUGUGACAGCUCCAGCCACUCUGAGGCUCUUCUUCCAUGAUUGUUUCAUCCGGGUACUUGGGGUUUUUCUCCUAACACAAACUUUACAUUUUUGCGUAUACUUAUACAAAUUUAUAUAUUUAUACAUGCAACUGCAACAAUGAGUGUGAGAUUUUUGGCUAUAUAGGGAUGUGAUGCUUCAAUAAUGCUAGCUUUUCGGAACAAUUCAGCAGAGAAGGACAACUCCGAUAACCUUUCGCUCGCUGGAGACGGGUUUGAUACCGUGAUCAAAGCCAAGGCUGCUGUUGAUAGAGUGCCCCAGUGCAGGAACAAGGUUUCUUGUGCUGACAUUCUGGCCUUGGCCACAAGGGAUGUCGUAAGACUGGUAAACAAAGCAAGGAAGCACCAUUAUUUCUUUUGUCUCUUUUAGGUUAAGGGAUUAUGGUAACUGCACUUUUUACUAAGAAAAUUCUUGUUUCAGCAAAUCUCGUGCAAGAAAUAGAAGGAUCCAAUGUGAUCAAGGGUUUAUGCACUGUGCAUUCACAUGAAGUGCUGUACAGUGCAGAAUCCAUUUUCACCUCAAUGUGGGGUGCAAAAGCACUUUAUCCCUUUUCACUGCUAGAAAAAUCUAAAAAAAAGAAAGAGGAAUUUUCUUUGUACAUUCCAUAUUAAGUCAAAUAAUGUGCAUGCUUUUAACGCAUUCUCUUGGUCUUGGUGCAGACUGGGGGACCAUAUUACAGAGUUGAAUUGGGAAGACUUGAUGGGAGGACUUCUACAAAAGCCAGUGUGAGACAACAUCUUCCUCAUCCUGAUUUUAGGUUAGACCAGCUGAAUUCGAUGUUCGCCUCCCACGGUCUCUCUCUAACCGAUCUCAUUGCACUCUCAGGUAUUUGAAGAACCAAAAAUCUUAAACAGAACAAAAACAAACAAAGUUAUGCAGAACCUAUUUUUGAUCCAAUCUUUGUUGUUGUUUUUUCAUUUUCUUUGUUGUAGGUGCACAUACAAUUGGAUUCGCGCACUGCAACAAAUUCACUCACCGGAUAUACAGUUUCAAAAGCCAGAACAGAAUUGAUCCAACGAUGAACUUGGCAUAUGCAAGGCAUCUCAAACAAGAGUGUCCAGCAAAUGUAGACCCCAGAAUUGCUGUUGACAUGGACCCAACCACACCCCAAAAGUUCGACAAUGUCUACUACAAGAACCUGCAGCAAGGAAAAGGGUUGUUUACUUCUGAUCAGUCUUUGUUCACUGACGCCAGAUCAAGAAAAAUUGUCAACUUGUUUGCAGCAGACGCCGCCGCUUUCGAACGGGCUUUUGUGGCUGCCAUGACAAAGCUUGGAAGAUUUGGAGUUAAGAAUGGAAAGCAGGGUGAAAUUAGGCAUGAUUGUGCUGCUGUGAACUAAGAUUAUGUAGCAUGCAUUAUAGCUUUGCUUGUAAAAAGACUAAUUAGCUAAGUUUUUCUAAUGAAUUUCAUAUGUAAUAUUUGCUUAUUUUGACCAUCAUCAUUCUUGGCACUGUCCCAUCAUCAUCAUUCUUGGCACUGUCCCAUCAUCAUCAUUCUUGGCUCUGUCCCAUGCCAUUGUUUCACGAUAUGGGAGAAAAGCAAUUAGGUGAGAAUGAUUGUGAUGUCCAACCUGCCACCUUCUGACAUAGGUUGUCUAAGUAAGUGGGUCAGUUUGGGAUUGCUUCGUAUGGAGCUCGUAUUGUAUUAAAAAUUCAAGUAAGAAGAAACCCAAAAACUCUUUCAAGUUUUCGUGUCAAAUUUUGUCGAGCGAUCUCCAGAGUAGUGUGUGUUUGUUUUCCAUUAUAAUGUAAGACCAAGUAUACUAUUUUGUUAGAAAUUCGAUAAGAAAACAUUGAGAACGUGAAAAUAUGCCUUUGCAAAUACACAGAUUCCACGAAGAAAUAACGAUAGAAGCGAGCCUGAAAAGAACAACCAAAUUUUCCAGUGGAAAUUUAAUAAAUAAAAGGAACCCGAUUAAAAACACCAUAAACUCUAGCAAAGCCGUUUACAAGAAAUGAGAUCUCUCGUUUUCAAUGUUGAUUUUAAUUAAAAAAACAUCCACUCAAAUUUCUAUUUCCAACAAGAAUUUAGAAAUUUCAUUAUCAACCAUCAAAGGAAAUGCCUUUCAGGUGUUCAUAAUAAUAACGGAUCCUUAUUACUUCUUUGUAGGGGCUCCUACUAUGUACAGUAAAAUAACGCAAAAGACAUAGCGCCAAUCACAUGACGGACGAUAUUGAGUAAAAACUCAAAUAGUAAAACUGUAAUUUAAGUUAUUUUGGCUACAAAAGAGACAUCCCCUGCCAAAUUGGCAUCAAAAGUAAACUAGUUGAAACUUCUUUUCUAGCAAGAGGAGUAUUACCCUAAUCUAAAGACACAAGGUUAUUACUAAAGAGCUUCAUCAUCAUCAUCAUCGUCAUCAUUCAUUUUUCGCUUCUCAUUCAAGGUAGAAGCUUAAGCCUUCUGUUCCCCUUUAAGAAAGCCCUCCCUCAAACUGUAUAAUGUUGUUGAAUUGUGUCGAUGUCGAGUCCUUUGAGCUUCACAACUGACUCAACAUGACCCUUCAGUGUGUGCAACUCCCGCAGCCUGCAACGACAACAGGUAACGAAUUGUCUUAGAAUCUCAAAUAAUAACUUCUGCAUUACAAAGUGCAUAUGCAUAACCGGCAAUCAUGAAACUAUCUCCGUGUUUAAGUCAGUCGCAUAGCUGCAUUUUCCCGGAAAGAAUUGAUUACACAUGGUGCUUACCUUGCAACCUCAGCCCUCCGCUUGGCUUGUUCUGCGAUCUCUGAAAGCUCCCUGUAACUGUUCUUCUCACUGAAAAGGUUGUUGGUUUCUGGUGGUUGAAGGCCAUGUAGGGUCCUCUGAGCAGCAGCCCACUGAGCUUCUCUCUCCUCUUUCCCAUAGUCUUUUUUUGUAGUAAAAGCAGUCUGUUAUGGAAAAACACAGAAUGAGGUCAAUUAUGAAAAUGCAGAAUCAAUCUAACUUACUAAUUGACUGUGCCACUUAUUUCAAAGAAUUAUCAUUCAGCAGCAUACCUUGUUCUCCAAAAGGUUAUCCCAAGCUUUCCCACUUAGAAUGUAGCGGAUUGCGAAUUUAAGUAAGUCAAGAGGGAAAUAUGUCACCACGCUGAAUAACCAGAUUACACCAGCCCAGCCCCAGCCACAUCCCUCUAUCCGUGCGAAAGCCCAGUUGGCAUAGACUGCUAUGAGAGUUGCUACCUGUCAUUUUGCAGAAUGAGCAACCAUUUAGAAAGUGAAAACAUGAAAAAUAAAUACAUUCCUCUGCUUUUAUAACUGAGUACAGGUUCGUAAAUAGAGAGAGUGAGUCAUAAGAGACAAGAAUCCCAACACCAUAUUGUUUUUACUUGACCAAACACACUACACACUAGACACAUAUUUCUAGAUUAAUCCCAUUGACAUUAUUGGAAAUUCCUAAGAAUUCUAAAAGCUUAAUAUUAUCCCAUUUGAAGCCUUGCAUAAAAAUGCAUGCAGAAGAGUACAACCACAGAAGCAUACAAGACAGAAACAUCCAGUAAAGUACUUGGUAUGUAUAAUUCUAAAGAAGUAUCAGUAGGCAAAAUGCUUACCAGUUGAGCAACCAUGAAAGCUCCGAGUAAGAGAAGUCCAGGACGUUCAACAAAAGACCAGCUACGAGACCUUGUGACAAAAAUAAGGGCUUGGCUAACAAUACUCACUUGUAAGUACAAUGCUGCCAUCAUUUGUUCAGGUCUAUCGCCCAAAUGUCUUACAUUAAAUGUGUUCUGCAUUAUGGAAAAAAAAAGGGUAAAUAAAAUCAGUUUGAAGAUACUUACCUAACAAAUGUGAGCUUCAUAGCUUAUAUAUUAAUGGAAGAUACAAGAAUUAUAUUCCUACCGAGAAGAAUUUGGUAUCUUUCAUAAGCCAGAAGAAGACAACUGUCAUUAGCGCCAUGUAACCUCCAAGAACAAUGCCAGUAGCAAAAAUUUCUUUCAGUUUCCAGCUGUCUGGCUGAGGAGAUGGCUUCACUCGGUCCUUGGAUAUUGUCAUGAUUGUUCCUAGCAGAAUUGUAAGCGCAAACUCAGACUCAUUUAUCACUCUUAAUGUACAACUAUAAAUCGUUCACACAGAUGUGUAUAAUCUUACCAUCAUUUAGGAUGGCAAUGAUCAAUACCAUGAAGGGUGCAAAGUCAAACUUCCAUAUCAAUGCAAUGAACAUAAAUCCAAACUGCACAAAGUUUAGCAUAAUGAGAAUAAAUACAUAAGACCUAAAAUAGGAAAAGCACCACCAGCAUCUCAAAACUGAUCACUGCUUCACUUACCACUAUACGUAUGGUAAUAGAAACAGCAUAGAUCUGCAAAAUGGAACAAAUUAAGUAGGGUGGCCUGGAAACAUUUAAACACCUAUAGACAGCCAACAUGAAAGAACAUAAAGAACAUAAUUGUAACUAACAGUAUAGUUCUUCAUCCUCUGGAAUAUGGCCCUGCUUGUCAGUACUGCACUUAUGAUCACACUUAAACCUGGUUCCGUGAGAACAAUAUCCGAAGCACCUCUAGCAGCAUCAGUAGCGUCAGCUACAGCAAUACCGAUGUCUGCUUUUUUCAAAGCAGGAGCAUCAUUGACACCAUCUCCUGUCAUUCCACAGAUGUGCUUCCUCUCCUGUAGCCUCUUUACAAUUUCAUAUUUGUGUUCUAUUAUGUCAAAAAGAGGUGUUACAACAAGAGUCAAUAUCCAGUUAAAAACAGAAAUAAACUGCAAAAAUUUACUUAUCAAUUGAAUUAUAAAAAAUAAUAAAAAAGUGGCACAUUGUGAAAGAAGGCAAAAAAAAUGACAUGGUAACUCAUUUUCAAUUUUCCAAGACAAAACUUAAAAACAUAGUGAACGGCAAACACUGUGAACAGUCACGAGUGUAGGCUGAAUUUUAACCAAUUACAAAUGCUUUUUCAAUGCCACCUACUACCAAGAAAGUUCAGGAGUAUAACUUCUCUUUAAAAUAGAGUGUGUGUUAGAGAAAGAAAAGAGAAGUUCCAAGAACCCACCUGGAAAUACUCCAGCAAACCCAUCAGCCUUCUCAAUCAAUUCAUCCACAGGGAGGGAAGCAAUGGAUGCAUCCUUAUCUUGGCCAAGCAAUGCGGAAGAUGGGUACAUGUUUGUUCCCAUCCCAAGUCUCCUUCCAGUUUCCUUGCCAAUGGCAAGCUGAUCCCCUACACGAUGGAGGCACGAAUUUUACAGAAUGUACAAAACAUCAAAAGUUCCGAUACGGGAGAAAAAGGGGGAUGGACUACAUGUAGUCAUGGUAUUUUACAAAGAUUAAGGGGAAAUGCAACCCACCAGUAAUCAUCUUCACAUUCACACCGAGAUUGAGAGCUCUGCGAAUUGUUUCUGCACUGUCAUGCCUGGGAGGAUCAAAUAAAGGCAACAAACCAACAAACUGCCAUGGUGUCCCUGGACUCUCCUUUGUUUUCUCUGGUACUUGCUGAAGACAAACCGAAAACAGAUAUGAGACCAGGGAGUUCGGUUGACAAAGGACCAAGCACAGAAUAAAGGUUCAUUUUGCAAACCUGUCUUGCAACGGCUAGAGAACGAAGUCCACGUUCAGCAAACUUAUCAAUCACUGCAUGAACCCUUUUCUUGAAAUCUUCCUUGCAGUUGCACAGGGCUAAUAUCUGUCACAAAGGAUAGAAACAUCUGAAUAUUUUAUGCAGUGGGAGAGAUACUUCUUGUUCAAUACCUAAAAUUGAGUUAAGACACUGUUACCUGCUCAGGGGCACCUUUGCUAGCUCUAUGCCAAUUUCCAUCAGAAUCGAUGUAGGUCAGAGCAGUCCUCUUGUCUACAGGGUUGAAUGGAAGGAAAUGGACUUCUCUGAUACCAGCUCGUGCCUGCCCAAAUUGAUAUAUGACAUAGAAAAGUCUCAUUAUAAAGGCUUGGACCUAAAAGGGUGAAAGGGUAAAAGACAAAUGUGAGACAAAUUACCUCCUUCGGAUCAGCAAGCAUUCCUACAAUUGCAGCAUCAAUAGCAUCCUGAUUUUCAGUCCUAGAAGCUCUUGCCGCAAGAAGCAUAACAUGCUCUUUCUCCACACCCUUGGCAAACACUUCAAUCAGAUUUCUGUCAACUGACAGCUUGUUCAGGGUCAGAGUCCCAGUCUUGUCACUGCAGAGGACAUCCAUGCCAGCCAUUUCCUCAAUGGCAGUCAUUCUUUUGGUAAUAGCACCUUGCUGAGAAAGCCUGUGGGAGCCAAUAGCCAUGGUGACAGAUAAAACAGUUGGCAUGGCAAUUGGGAUUCCUCCAAUCAAGAGAACCAGCAAAUUGUCAAUUCCAUCCCUGUACUUGCGCUUCUGUAUUGGGUACAUAACUAUAAGCUCAAUUAGUAUCCCCACAGCAAUUGAACAAAUGCAGAAGUUCCCAAUCGCAGUGAGAACUUUCUGAAAGUGCCCAACUUGAUUGGUGCUGUCCACCAGAUGUGCAGCUUUACCAAAGAAGGUGUGCACACCAGUGGCAAUCACAACUGCUUCAAUUUCACCCUGCUUACAUGUUGAGCCAGAAAACACUUCUUCUGAGGGAUUCUUAGUAACAGGAAGGGACUCGCCCGUAAGCGCAGAUUGAUCAAUUUUUAAAGGAUCACCCUCGAGAAGGCGGGCAUCAGCAGGAACUAUAUCUCCCAAUUUAAUACUGAUUAUGUCUCCAGGGACCAAAAUUGAAGCUUCUUGCUCAGUCCAUCGACCAUCUCUAAGAACCUACAUCAGGUCACCAUAAAAAGUAAGGAAAACAUUCAAUAAAAUAUUUGCAGGACCAAUAUAAGUAUUUAGGAUUGUUCAACAUUUUUUCUUCACCUUAGUUUUGGGAGCAAGACCAGCCAUAAGGGCUGCAGCCGCAUUUCCAGCAUUGUUUUCUUCAAUGAAACUUAUAGUAGAGUUAAUGACCAGCAGGACAACUAUUCCAACAAAGUCCUGCCAAUCAGGAGGCCUUCCACCACCAUUUGCCAAGGCUAUAGCCAUCACAGCAGCAGCUUCCAUGACCCAGGAUAAAGGAUUCCACAUAAAUCCCAAGAACUUGAGUAGUUUGCUCUCCUGUUUACAAAAGAUCAAAUCGUUAUAUGUUACACCGAAAGACAUAUAUAUGAGGAGGAGGAAAAGAUUUUCCAUAUAAUAGAAAUUGUAAACAAACCUUUUUCUCUUCUAAUUUGUUUGGUCCAAACACUUGAAGCCGGUUGGCUCCUUCGUCUCCGGUUAGACCUUCUCUUGUACAUUUUAGCUGCUCAAAGACUUCCUCUAUUGGAAUCCGUUCCUGUGAAGAAGAAGAAAUUAUACAUCAAUGAGCAAUUUACUCUAUUGGGGAUGGAUAAUACAUGCAACCAACCGUUUUCUGUACUAUGAAACUCAAGAGAAUGUUUACUUUUUUUUCUUUUUAUCAAAAUUUGGAAAUGAUUCCAUAUAAUAAAAGCCUUUCCACUUCACAAUUAAUCUAAAUUGAUUAUAAACACCACCAGCACACGCUGUUGCACAUUGUUUAGAGCCAACCCGGCGCGCAUGACAUUUCAAUUGCAUUGUUCAUAGUUAAGUUUGGUGCUACCCGCAGUCAAUUAUGGCAUACAGAAAACAACUUAUUGCAAGAAUUUUUCUAUUGCACCAAAAUUUUACUUUUAGCCAGCAAAAGAACAGUUAAUGAUCAUUUAAGAUUUUUUUUUUCGGUAAACAGAAAAUUCAACAGCUGGGUUUCCACAGGUUAGCAAUCAAUAGAUUCACGAAAUAGAUGCGUGAACAGAUGGGAACUGCUUUAGCUCACUGCUCAUGGGAAACUUGAAAGAACCCAAGUCGUGUCCAAUAACAAUAUUGCAAGGACAAAAAGUCAAACAUUACUGUAUCACUUAUUGACUUCAUGACAUAUGGGUAUUAAUAAAAUUAAAUAGUUUAUUACAAGUACUAUGAAUAAACAAUUUGACACUUCACCAAAAAAAAAAAAUUAAUAAAUAAAUAAAUUUCCAAGCAUAUAUGAAGUACAAGCAAGGUACUCGCAACGCCCAAAUCCCAAAACAAGAAAGCUUAAAAAUACCACAGAGAACUUGGCAACUAUAGAAUAACAAAGAAACCAACAACCCAGGUCGUAAAUGGAAUUAUUCAAUCAACCCUCCAAAUAAAAAUUAUGAAUUCAUUGCAAAAUCAAAAUUAUUUUUUUCUUAAUCUAAAAAUAUUUCUAAAUCGCCAAAUAAGGUACGUAGCAAACACGCCUUUAAAAGGGCGCGUAGUGGUAAUUUAAUAUUCGGUUGUCAGCCAUGUUCUCUAAUAAAGCAGCGUGCGUUGUCAAGCCGCUGAUUCCAUGUGACCUUAGGGUGCGUACCUUACCCACACUCCUCUGUAAAGCGCAGACCAUACAAAUAUUUUUUAUUAACAUUUUCCAGAAACAAAACCGUAACCUUUUAAAUUUUGAUUUUUGUUUCCCCGUUUGGAUUGUGUUACCGUAUGGGGCUCUGGAAAAUAGAAAUAAAUAUAUUUCUUAAAAAAACAGCUUGGAAUAAAAGCAAUAGGAGAGAGGAAUCUGGCCCGUUCAUAUACGGCCCUGGGCCCACCAAAGGUGAGUCCAAAUGGCCCUAACGGUUCGGAUGAAAACUGUGGCCUGGAAAAGGUUUUCUCGUGUCCUCUCUAUCUCUAUGAUCAUCGCCGAAAUGACAGGCUAGAACAAAACUUAAAAGUCACGCCGCCGAUUUAAACAAAAAACAAAAAGAAAACAAGAGUACGAAAAAAAAAAAACAAGAGAAAUUAUUUAAUUUUAGGAAAUUUUUUAUAUAUUUUAUAGAUGAAUACCUACUGUUUGUUAGGCCAGAAAGACAGUACGGAAAACCGGUAAAACAGGAAAGCAAAUAAAAUAUUAGUCGAUCAGAGAAAAUUAAAGUCGUCAAAGUGAGAACUAAUCACUCAAAAGAAAGGAAAAGAACUCACGAUAUUGAUAACACAAAAACACAAAAAAUUUGUACAAUUUCAAUUAGAUCGGAGUUUUUCAUAACGUUUUCUUUUGUUCCACUCCAUCAUUUUCUGGGCAGCUAAACACAUGCAGCAGCGCAAAACAGAGAAAUAAAGAGAGAGUGUACGGAUACAAAUAUAUACCAGAUCGACGGACUCGUUUUUGAUCUCCUCGAGGCUGAUGGCCUUGUCGCCGCCCAUGGCUGAGAGUAGCGGUGAGCUCGGAGGAGCUCAGAGCUGCAGAGACAAGUGGAGAUUAGGUUUUGAACGAAAACCGAAAAGAAGGAGUGCCGAGUAUUUAUAGUGUGAAAAGCCCUAGAGAGUCAUAGUCAGAGAAGAACGACUACCCACCAUGAAAAGUCUCUAGGAUGCUGAUGAGGAUGAGGAUGAGGUAAGCCGAAUCGGGUCCGGUUUCGGAUUCCGGGUCUGAGUUUUCGGGGCAGCGAGAUAUGAAUGAAUGAAGGAGAGCUAAAGAGUCCACACUGGUUGUGAUUGAUAUAUAUAGGGCCUGACUUUGGGAGGGGGUGGGGCCUACUGGGACCCAAAAACGCUCGUUUUUGACCUGCCACGCCCUCUCUCUCCUCUUGCGCAAUGUGGCGCGUGGACGAGUAGCGGAGGGAGCCCGUGAAGGUGUUGGCUUUUAGGCGGUAAUCUGGUGAGUUUAGUAACGGACUGAGAGGAAAGACCGUGUUUGCUUUUGUCCUCUAGAGUUUUUUCUUUUUCAUUUUUCUUCCUGCUUUAUAUAUAGAGUUGACUGAUUAAUUUCCUUUGCCUUUUGUUUUUGAUUUUUUUGGAAUUUUUAUUUUUAUUUUUAGGGUUAUUUGAAUUUUCUUUUUUUUUUCCUUCUUCAUAUAUAUAUAUAUAUAUAUAUAUAUAUAAGAUCGAUUUAGCUUUGUGAUUAUGUUGGGAUUAUGUUUCUAAACCUUAAACAUUUUGUAACCACCAGUUAAUGUCUAAUCAAUGUACCAAUCAUGAUGUGUAACAAAAUCUAAAUCGAUCUUUUUUAUAUAUAUAUAUAUAUAUUUAUUUUUUUUUUAAUUUUUAAAUUUUUGGUUUCAAAUGGAUCGAUAACCUCAUAAAGUGCAACUGUUUAGAUCACAGGUUGAGUCCAUAUCAUCCUCUUUAUGCGGUUCUAGUGUUCCACUAUGAAAGGUGCAGCUUCUUUAGGGUAGAUAUAGGUUUGCACAAUUGUACCCAAAUCCCUUCAACAAUCAAACUUUUUGUUUUCUUUUAAAUUUUCAAAAUUUAUUUGAUAAGCUCUACAAAUAAAGUUUGGAUAAAUCAAGUCGUUUUGUGAACGAGCUCUAGCCCAAUGAAAAAAGGACUUUAAUUUGCAUACAUAUAGUCUCAUGCUCGAACUCUCAUGAUACUUUGAUAGUGUGCGUGUGAGAAAGUCCUCCUCCUUACUAACUUUGGGGAAAAACAAAACCAAGUUGUUUUAAUUUUUCUUCAUUUAAAUGACACCAUUAUUAAAUAUAUUAAUAAAAUAAUUUAAAAUACAUGCAAUUACCUGCAAAUUAUAUCAAUUUAAGACUUUAAAUAGACAAAUUAGCUAUGUAUUAAUUGCAACCUUGUUAUGUCACUUGUGAUUGAAACUAGGUUUUUUUUUUUUCUGUUGCUUACCAAAAAUAAAUUUGUUUCUGUGAUCAUGCAACUCUGUUUACAAUAAUGUUGGACGCAUUUUAAAAUAAUGAUUUUUUUUCUCAGUAACGUAUGCAACAAUUGUGGAAGUGACCGACAAAUUUUCAGAAAUGUUCUCUUCUUUUCCUGUUCAACCUCAUUGGAAAGAGUAGCGUUUUCUAUACUAUUAUAUUAUCCUCCCCAAAAGCAGGGUGCAUGUGUUUAACUUGGAGAAUAAAGGCCAUUAUAUAUAUAUAUAUAUAUAUAUGUUUAAUAACUAUUCUCUUACUAAAUUAUUUGCUUAUUGUAUGAAUGUAUUAUUCAUAUUCGUAGUGUUACAACAUUUAGUAAAUUGAUUCGUCAACGGGAUUUAGUUCAGUAAAAACAAGAUAUUGAUUAGAAGAGCAGUGAUUUCAAGCUUGAAUUAUCAUAAUAUUUUAGUAGUGUACGUAAGAACAUCUCUCUUUAUAAUUUAAAUUAUCACUUGUAUUAUAACAAAUUUAAUUCAGUCAAACAGUGUCACUUAAUUUGGUAAACAUAUUUGAUGUCCUUAAUUUAACAUUAUUUCAGUGUUUGCUUUUUCAUACCUACGUUAUAAAUAGUAUAUUGGUUUUUAUAUAUACGAUUUUGGUGCUACAAUUAAGCAGCUGAGUAAAAUAGGCUGGAAAUCUGCCACCUCAUAAAGCUUUUCCUGCGGACUGGAGCGUAAAUAAGACGCGACAAAAGUGCACGCGUGGGUGACAUAAAUAUAGUUCAUGACAGAAAUCUAUGUCCAUCGUAAACCGUCAUUAACUCUCUAAUUUUUCGCUUUUCAACGGGGGGUUACGUGUCAGCUUGUGGUUGCUCGAGGUAGGAAGCUUCCAUGCCCUCGGUCAGCCGGUGUCAUAAAUAUUGUUCACAUAUGUUAAUGAAUUUAUUAAUUUUUGGCCCCGAAAAGAAAAAGAAAUGAUUAAUUAUUUAUUUGUAUAUGGUUUCCAACCCAAGCCGUUUCGGAGUAUUGGAAUCCGAUGCCCUUUUGUGGCAAAAAAAUUAGGAAAGACUAUAUUUAUUAUUUAUUAUUUUUAUCAUGAAAAAAAGAGUAUUUAUUAUAUUUAAAAUAUGUUUCAAGUAGCGUAAAUUUGCUGCCUUCAUUGUCCUAUUGUCUCAAUCCAUUAUUAAUAUUUGUACUUAUAGUAGAAAAUGAAGGCAAAUAUGGAUACUGAAUAAUUGAUUGCAUCUAGAAAAUGAAGGUAAGUAAUGCCUCGUCAUAUUGCAUGUUGUAAGGUGAUAAGUGAAUUUUCUAAUGGAUGAAUUUAAUUCCCAACAAUAAAUAAAUACAAAUAAAAAUGGAUGAAUGUUGUAAAUGCAUGAGUUGGUGGAUGACCACCAUACCUCUUAAUAUUCCACCGUUGAAUUUUAUGUAACCUAUGCACUAAGUAUUUGUAAUUAAUGCUUGUAACUUAUAGGUAUAUUGUAAAUGAUGGUAUUCAAUCUCCUAUCUUGUAAGCUUAUAAAUAGGUGGUUCUACCAAAGAUUAAGGUAGGAAUAAACAUGGUGAAACUUUGUCUUUAGCAUAUCACUUCUCUCUACAUUUUCUCCCUCUAGUUUUAUAACAAUGAAUUUAAUUUUCAAUCUAUAUAUAUAAUGCUAUUUGUACCACAUUUACUGACUACAUCUCUAGUUAGGGUUUGUUAUUGAGUUGAAUCAGGCCGACCUAAAUUUUUUGGACUCAUGACGGGCUUUACAAGCUUUUUUAAUUUUUCAAGUAGAGCAGAGGUUUCAAAUGUCAAGCCUUGAGCCCGCCCAUUAGGCCGGACCCAGCCACCCAAGGGUCGGGACGGGCUGUCCCUUUUUUUCUUCUUUUAACAAGUCUUUUAUAAUCUUUUAUUAGUAAUUUUUAGACAACAUUAAGGGGGUUAAUUUUCUCACUCAUCUUUUGUUCACUUACACUCCCUUUGUUGGAAAUUGCAUGUUCUUACUCUUCUUUUAUCAACUUUAUUAAAAAUAAAAGGGAGUAUAUGUGGACAAAAGGGGAGUGAAAAAAUCAGCACCCUAAAAAUAUUAACUUAAUUCAUAACAUGUGUAAAAAUAUAAAAAUAUGUUUAUUAAUCUAUGCUACAUAUUACAUUAUUCCAAUUAGGGAGUGCACUUGGAUGUGGGUUGUAGUUUAAUUUCUUUUAUAAAUUUUUGUUACAAAUUUUUAGACAACAUUGAAAGAACUAACUUAAUUCAUAACAUGUGUAAACAAAAUAAAAGUUUAUUAAGUUAUCCUACAUAUUAUAUUAUUUUGAUUAAGUCUAAAAUCAAGUUAAGAAGUGCAUCAAUUAAGUCUUUAAAAAAAAAAGGCAUAGACGAGCCGUGUCAUGCCUAGGCGGGCCUAUAUGGGACGGGCCAUGGGUGGGCCAAGGGUUUCAAAUCCUGAGCCCAAGCCAUACCAAAUUCAAAAAUGAGUCGGGCUAAACAGAUUGGGCUAUGCUUUGGCUCAUUGAGCCUCAGGCUAUCUACUUCGGCUCAUGGGCUUAGGGCCAAAUGAUGAUCGCUAUCACUAAUAGUGAUAGCCCUUCCAGUGUAUGUGGGACCCACCUAUAUUAGAGAGGUGGUCAAUAAAUAUGGUCUAAAUAGCAGGACCUUAUAAUAAUAAAAAGGUGACAAGUGAUAUAUUUUUUUGUCUUAAAAAAAAUCUUAUUGCCCAAUAUUUUAUGUGGGUUGAGUGGUAGUUGUACUAAGGUUAAACCGUAAUUUCAUUAACUUAGUGCCCGUUUGGCAUUGUUUAUUUGGGGUGAUAAGUGAUUUGUGAAUUUUUUAAAAAUAUGGCAACCCCAACCCAUUUGGUAAACUAUGAGAAAAUCAUUUAUUGUUAAAAAUUGCUAUGAAAGAAAGAUAUAAGAUAAAGCAGCUAAUGAGGUGCUUUCAUUUUCUUUAUGAUUAUGCAGGAAUCAGUUAUAAAGAGGCGCUGAGUUUAAUGAAAUUUACAAACUUUAGAAAAUACCCCAAUCUAUUUCAUGCAAUUUACUCUCUUCGUGCAUUUUCUCCUUCGCAUCCCUUUGCUUCUUCACGCCAUCUCUUUCACAGAGUUCUCUUUCUCUUGAAUCUCUUCUAUUCUUAUUUUUUCUUGUUGAAACAAUUGAAGCACACUCCUGAAAAGCCACAAGACUCAGGUAAGAGACAUAUUAUGUUUAUUUAUAGGUUUAUUCCUACUCAAAUAAAUAUUAGCCCAUUGCAUCAAAUAAAUAUAGCUCACACAUGUGUUGUUUUUCUUUUUUAAAUAAAUUAAUAAUAGCUCAGUCCUCUAUUUAAAAUAAGCCCACUCUUAAAGCAUAUAGGAAAUAAUAAAUGUCAAUUCAAUCCAAACCUAUAUAAAUUUGAUUAGAAGCAUAACUCACGCUAAGGCUCUAUCAACUUGAGCUAUUCUAAUCAUACUGAUAUUGGGCUACGUUUGCAUAGAGCAAACAUAAAAAAAUUUCUUAUAGCCACCCAAAACGCCAUAUUUGAACCUUGAGAACCUAAAGGGAAUAGCUCUCCUCCUCUAAAAAAUUGUAUCAACCUAUCUUGAGUGGGUUCUUCAAUCUUGGUAAGUUUUAAAUAUAUAUAUAUAUAUAUAUAUUCAAUUCCAAUUUUAAUUGUUGUUGUUAAGUUUUUAUGAUUUAGGGUUUGAGUGAAAACUUUUGGAGAUUGUUGAUAUAUGUUUUAUUUUUGCAACUUGAAUUAUUAAUUAGCAUAUAUGAUUUUUAAUGUCUAGUAUUUUUGGGGAAUAAACUUAUUGUAUCUUGUUGAUAAAGCAAAAGAUGCAUCUAAUAGAGAGCAAAUGACCAUUGUUUUAAGAUUUGUUGAUAAGGAUAGUUUUGUACGAGAACGUUUUUUUGAGAUUGUUUGGUAUUUAUUUAUAUUUUGUAUUUCUUUGUGUUAUAUUUACUUGUAUUGUGGCUUUGUUUGAUUUAUAAAAUUUUAUUUACAUUUUUGUUUAAAGAGAAAAAAGUCUUAUAAUAUAUCUCCUCUAUAAAAAAAAAAUAUUUAGCCUACCCCUAUAAAAAUUCCUGGAUCUGCCAUUGUGUUUAUUUCUUCUCAAAAAUUUACCAGACACUUAGAAACUAAUUAUUGUACCAACAACACUUGUAAUAAAAAGUUUACCAAACGUCAAAUUUCUUUCUCUCACAACUAAUUUGACAACAAUUCUUUUCACAGCAUAGCAAUGCCAAACUGACCCUUAAUAUGAUAAUGAAACGUAAUUUGAUUUUUAAAUAGUAUCCAAUUUGAAUGGGAAAUUAUAUAUGGAAAUGUUGUGUUACGAAAUGAAAUUUGGGUACUUGUCCUAAUUUGGGAUAAUUUCUUUUCUUUUUGGUUUUUGAACUCAUUUAUAUAUUAGCAUGUAUGGCUACAUUCAAUAGGUAUACCUAUAUAUUUAUGGGAUAUAAACUCAUUGCAUUCAGUCAUAUUCUGGCUAAAUUUGCUAAAAAAACAUGAACCAUGUCAAAUUGAAUGCAAUUUUUUUUCAAUGGAUAUGGAAUCACUACAUGCAAGGAAUGAAUCAUUCGAAAUUUAUUGUCUAAAUUCUGACAUACAUAAAUUGUGACGGUUUAAACAAACAAUUUCACCUUAUAAUGACAUCUAAAUUCAUGAUUUGAAAUCUCUCCAUUCAAAUUUAAAUUUCUUUAAAAUAUUAAAAGCAAAAAUAUCAUUAAAUUGAUAGCUAAUACGUAUCUCAUGCUCCUUAACAAAAUGUAAAUUAACUCCACAUGGGUUAGUUUCAAAUUGAAACUUUACCUUUUUUUAAGUGCAUAUAUUUCUUCUAGUCCACACCGACCUUUCUUUUAUUUUUAUAUUUUUGAAGGUCAAAUUAGUAGUAACUGGGAAAGCCUCCACCACACAACGAGUCUAUGACCUUGUGAACGAGAUGGGCUUCUUUGAAUUCAAUUGCCGUAUCCCGUCUUGCACGAGGCAGGGCCAUACAUACACAUGGCUUUUGGAAGAUCACUCCGUCCCGCCGCCGUUAUCGGCUUUUUCUCAAACAGUUGGUGUGCAUUUUUUUUUUUGAGUCGAAUUGUUUUUGUGUGGUGUGGCAUGGGAGAGAUUUCAAGGGCUAAUUGACCCUUAAUCAGGUGGGACCCACAUCUGGAAAUGUAUACCGGGCGAAACGUCAAAGUCUGAGUCGCCUAGCACAUAUAACUACAACUGCCACGGUAAACUUUUUGACCUCAUGUUUGUUUAGCAUAUCUGUUUAUAUUAAUUGUGUUUUAGUUUAUACACAAGUCUAGGGUUUUCUUGUUCCAUUGAAAAUGUGAUCAUCUUUAAGUUUGAAAAUGAUAACUGUUUGUAUUAUAUUACAAAUUAACUCUUUAUCGGGUCAAUGAAAGUUUCGUUGAAAUUAAUUAUAUGAGUAAGCAUUGCGUGAUCGUAAUACCAUCACUAACUAAAUUUUCUAAACAUCGAUGAUUUGUGUUAAUUGAGUGAGGUACAUAAUCAUAAAUCAUAAUAGAGAUUAAGACUUCUGUUCCUUGGCGUGAUGCUUUUGUAGUCCGACUUUUUUGUAAGACUAAUCAAACUUCAUUGGAAUAUUAAACAUUUGAAAUUGAGCACUACAAAUACUUUUCUUUUUAAAGAACGUACUCAAAAGAUAAAACUAAAAGAAAAUAGAAGAUAUAACUCAUGUGGUACCCAAACUUCAGGGGCACAAAGAAUAUUAAGAGGUUUGGUCAAAAUAAUACAACCCAUAUACAUGUCACAUAACUCAUGGAUAGAGAAGAACCCUCUAAACUUUUUCUUUUUAGGCUUCUUAGGAUCAUUCGAGACGUAAUUUGAAUAGAAUUAUACUUAAGUUGACUAAAUAAUCUCAUAUUAUAUGGAACUUAAAUAGUAUAUUUGAAUAACACAUUUACAAAAAUAACUCAUUCAAAACACAAAUAGGAAAAUUUAUGUAUGUAUCAAACUGUAAUUGACAAAUAACACGUAAUGUGACUGUCAGACCAAGAAAUUUAUCAUUCCAUACGAAAGAGGUAGGAAAUUGCAUUUGGAUAGUCUCAUUUAUGUAGAGUAGUUAAAUUGAUGAUGAUGAUGCUAAGCUAAUUGAGAGGGACUUACUUUAUUAUGACAAUGAGAAAGAAGCAACGUCUGAUGGACAUUAACAAGAAGCCUCCUAAUGACUUUCAUCACCUCCUGCCUUGUAUGUUAGUACCUAAUUUGCAGUCUUUCUCCCCUAAUUUACGUCCAUUUGGGCAAAUGAUAGGAAAUAUAUAUAUAUAUAUAUAUAUAUAUUUAUCUUAAUAAUAUUGUUUUAUUUUCUAAUGGCUCAAUGAGUCAUUGGAAAUUUGGAACAUCAUGCCAAAAAAGAAGAAGGGAGCAUUGUACUUCACGUCUGUACUGUAAAAAAGAAUGUGGACCGUAAUACAAGGAACUUUCCAAUUGAAAAAGAAAAAAAAAAUCAGUUUGCAAUUCAAUUGAAUUGGAAAAUUUCUUAUUUUACAAUAUGAAAGCUAGACCCACCUGUAUUAUAUUCAUGCAUAUAGCUUUACUGAAUGGUAUUUUAUGCAAGAUGAUCCAGUUUAAACAUCAUCUAAUUGCGCUAGUUGGGUAUAUCUCAGUUGGUUAAGCUCUUUCACUUUCAUUUAUGUGGACAAAUGUUUGAAAUCUCCGACACCCAAUGAAUAUUGCUGUAAACCCCUCCCCAAUCGCUUGUAUAACAACAAAAUAGCAUCUUUUUCACCCACCACCCUGUUAUAUAGGUUUAUUCAAGAACAUUAUGCAAAAAUGUUUAGGGAAAAAAUUGGCCCAAGGUUUUGGUUCCAUAGGGCCUACCUCCCUCAUUUAGGUUCCUUCAAAGUUGAAAUGAAGACAUUUAGGACCAAUGAGGAGGAGUUAUUAUUAACAUAGAAAUCAAAGUACAGACAACGAUGAGAGAAAGAAAGGUAGAGAGCAAAGAUGCCAUGAGAAUAAUUGUUGCUGUUGCUAAAGAUGAAGGCCUAUGACCUCCAAUUUUAUUGGCACCAAUGCUUUUUUGCACGUCACUAGCUAGGAAGAAGAUUCUUAAGAAUAGUAUAGGCUGUCCAAAUUUUGAGAGAGAGAGAGAGAGAGAGAGAGAGAGAGAGAGAGAGAGUCUCUUUUUAUUUUUUUUAUUUUUUUAUAAUAAAAACAAAAGAGAGAGAGAGUCUUUGACAUCAAUAAUUUUAAGUACUACGAUCCCUAAAUUGCAAAGUGUUUUACCAAGAAAUGAGCAAUGUUCUUGGUGUUGUACGGCAGAAAUAAUGGAAGUCCCCACAUUUAACUAUUCUGUGAAGGUGAUGGGGAUUAGACAACCCACUUGCUAAGUGGGUUGAGCAUUUUAUGAGUAUUCUUCUGACCUCCUCUCCAACUUCCUACCUUCACUUUUCAAAAUUAUUUCUUGGUUCGUGGUUUUACCUUUCUCAGAAAGUUCUUACAUGCUAUUAUUUUAUCAAUAGUGUCGAUUAUAAAAUUUGAACUCAAUCUCAUUUUUCAUCUAAUAAAAUUAUGAUCAAGUAGCACCAGACCAAAUCGUUAGAACCUCCAUAGAAAUACACACAAAUUUGAAUUUCGGGACAUAAUUUUUUGAACUUAUUAAUUAAAAUAUUUUUAAAAUUUUAUUGUGUGGCUGUCCUAGUUGGAAACUUGUGUUCGAAAUCCAAUGAAGACCUAGAUCCACAGUGGCCCUCUCCUUAGGACAUGUAUUGAUUGUGAUGUAGCCAAAUCCAAUUUGGGGUCCUCAUAUCCUGAAUUUGACUUUGUAAUAGGACUCAUUGAGAAUUUUACAUAUAAAUUAAUUAAAUUUUAUAUAGUUUCCAAAUAUUAAAAGUGUGCUCCUAAUAAAGUGCAUAGAGAUGUUGAAACUAGUUAGAUUUCAUUUUCAUAAAGAUUACAUGAUUCACCCAUUUCAUAUUUUAGAUUAUGCUCAAACAAAAGAAGCAAAGAAAACAUAAAUGAAUUAUUUGGGCACAAAGCAUCUCCUUACCCAUAUGCACUUAUAUGUGUUGUAUAGAAAUAUUUUACACCAUGAGAAGGCCACCCAAAGUAUGACAACACAUUGAAGAAGAUAAAAAUGAAGUUGGGUAUGCAUGAUGGGUCACAUGGAUCAAUAUGAGACACAAACUAAAGUUGUCCUUGUAACUGAUUGAUUAUAGGUAGGCACAAUAGGAGGUGGGAAGAGAGUGCACAUGUAAAGCAUUUUGUUCUAUUUGGAAAAGAAAAGGCUAAGCUCAUGAAAUUGUUCUCCAAUAAGUUUCCAGAUAGUAGGUUACAAAAUUAAACACAAGGGCACCUAAACCUAGUGGUGGAGGGUUCUUGGCAUGUGAAGUUGUCACAAGCUCAAAGAAAGUUGUAUGCAAAACAAGGCUGGCUACAUUGAAGAUGACCAUUGCCUGUGAACCAACCUUUUUGUUAUCUUGUAAGAAUCUAAUCCUAACAAAAUGGUGGAGAGAGAGAGAGAGAGAGAGUUGGGGGAAAGUCAUGAGAGCCAUGAUUUUUGCUUGGAGAGUCCACAAAAAAACCCACUAAAGAUAAAAAGUGGAGGAUUUGUUUAGGCUUUUUCUCUCUAGUGGGAAAGUGGGGGUGAAAAAGAUGGGCAUGGGCAUUAGUCCUUUUAGGUUGAGGUCCCAAUUUUGAAGCAGAAUCAGCAUAAAAAAUUGUAAUCUAGCAUAAGUAGAAACCUACAACAAAGGAAAAAGACCCACGAGGGUUCUGUUUCUUUGCAUGUGAAAGGCACUAAUUGCUCCAUAAAAUGAAGUGUCUCUUAUUUUGCUCAAGAUAGAGUCCAUUCAUUUUUUUGCUCCUGCCUCAUUGGCUACUUAUAGCCUUUUGCCUUCAUAUCUAUCCUUCAUAUAUAUAUAUAUAUGAUGAGUUAUGUCAUCCAAUUUUGCUUCACUAUCUUGCCAACCAUCCAUUUUCUUCUCCGCCCAUCUAUAAUUUUAGGCCUAUUUCUCUGUCCUUUUUUCAAUUUCUCUUCAAAACCUAUGAUGAUGUUAUGGUGCUCUCCAUCUGUUAAAAUUUCCAGCUCAAUUAGCAAUGAACCAAAACGAAAAGUGACCCACUUGACCAUCUCAUGUCAAAAUUUGUAUGAGAGGAGGAGCUCAUUAUGCAUGCUUAGAUGUUUGAAGAUAUCUUCUUGGCUUGUGCCGCCUAUGAUCCUGGAAAAAUGCAUAUUCAAACCCAAUAAAUAAUUUUUACUCUUUUGUUGAUGACCAUGUUAUCAAGACUUCGCUUGGUACUUCUUGUUUGAAACCGUGGGGAAACCAGAAUAAAAAUGAGAACGUCUAUAUAAAUUGGCUGUAUAAAGUCAGACCAAAAAGGAUAAAAAAGGAAAAAACCCGGCUAUAUAAAGAUUUUGAAUUGCAAGACAAUUUGUUCGUUGUUGACUUGUUGCCCAACCCAAUUCUAAAAGCCCUGCUAAAAGUUCCGAAAGCCCAACUCCAAUAUGAUGAUUAAUUUUGUCGAAAUCCACCAAAUACAAAAUAUAGAUACUAGAAUUAGCAAAAUGGGAAUUCCAAAAAAAUUAAGCGUCAACACCUCGAGGAUUUACAAAAGUGUAGGAAGCAACAGAAUUUCAGCAACAAUGGAUUCAAAUAUCAGGAUCAUAAACUGUAACCCGGACUCCAUCUUCCUUCAGGCAGUAAAACAUCAUAAAUCGGUUGUUCCGCCAGCCAGAAUGUCCAAAUCAACUUUCAACCAUCGGUUCGGGGUCAGAUGGUUCCGUGAGAGAUGGCUGUGUGAGAGAUUUGUUGGAUUGACGUACAGAAUUGAAAAGAAUGUCCUUGAUAACCUACGCAAAAACAGAUAAGAGCAACUUUGUUAAUAACGGACAAGAAAACUAAUUGUUGUUGCAAAAACCUUCUGCUCAGAGCACACAUAGGGUAUAUGAAGAUCGGCAAAGCCAGGGCUACCUGUGACAUCAGACCGUGCACCUGCUCGACAGUUAUCUUUGCACUGUCACGAGUAAUUUUGGCAAGUUGUGAUUCUUCCUGCAAUUCAUGAAGCCAUUGAAAUUAUAGACUCAAAUAAAUUACCAGCAAAAGAGGUAACCAGCAACAUGAAAUGUUAAACAAUAAUAAGAUACCAAAACAAAUUAUAAUAUAGUAACAUCUUCCUCUUAAUCCCAACUCUGUCCUACAUAGAAAUGAAAUCACCAGGUAUGCAUUUCCAAGGUCACCUGGAUCUAAAUGGCCUGUCUACGGGACCAAGUGGGACCCACCUAAAAGGACAGGAGAAGAAAAGAUAUUUGCACAAUACUGCUAAAUAGUUGAAUCUGUAGGAAAACAAUUUUUUUUUCCUUUAACGAGUGGAAACCAAACAUAAAUGCAAGUGAUUCUCAGGGUGGGAAAAUAAUUGCGUCUUUUAUCUUUCUGUUUUCUUCUUGAUAUAUCCACAUAUUUAUCAGUUUUCAUGAAAGAGAGAAAAGAACAGAACUGAAUGACACCAUGUUCACACUUCAAUGGACAUCUACAAGCAUAGCCACAUAGAAUGAUGAAAUUUUAAAGGUGUGUUUUAUCCAUACGAUUUGUCAGCCCUAACCUUCUCUACCUCUAUAUGGGUAACAGUUCCCUCUUAGCAGUUCCUAAAUAUAUGAAUCACAAACCAUUUUAUUGACAGCUCUUCUUCUAAAUCAAACGAGAGAGAGAGAGAGAGAGAGAGUAGGGGGGAGUGACAUUUACCUCCUUCUUUCUUUGUGGGGGAGUUAUUAAUGGCCCAAAGCGAGAAUGAGACAAAUGAUUUUCUGCUUGCUCCAGUUUUUCAGCUGACAUGAUACAAGGGAGACAACUUAAUAUUCAGUAAAAUAAUAUAUCCAUAUAAUACGAGGAUGACGGAUGGAAAUACUUGAAUAGGCAAUAUGCAACAGGUAAGAAAGUACCUAGAUCAGAAAUUUGUCCAGCAACAUAAUCUCCAUUGCCCAAUAAAGGUGAGGAAGAAAGAGUAUUCACCCAAUACUUGUUCCAAAGAAGAUCCAAGAGGUGGCAGUCAAGAGAAGACUUGAAAUAAGUGAUAUCCAGAGAAUAAUACUGCAUAAACAAAUACAAAUGAGUUUCAGAGACUAACAAACUAAAGUUUCACAAAAGAACCAUAGGAUAAAAACAUAAUAACCUGUUUACAGUGCACACCAAAGUCCUCAAUUUUGUUCAGAGGAAUGGUCUGAUACUCGGACACAGGGUCAUCUGGAGGCUUAUAUCCUUCUGGGUAUGUCCUGAAUGCACCGAUGUCAACCUUUCCAGCUGACACUGUCCGAGUUGGAUCAAUAACAACAGCCAAAAAGGGCUCCUGAAAUUGCUGGUUUAGCAUCUGUGUGGAAACAUCAAUACCCGAAAGCCAGCAUCCAUAACCAGGAUGAGAAUGGUACCACCCAACCACAUUCUCCAACCGCCCUGCCUAUACCAUAACAUACUCUGUAAGAGGAUUAACCUUGAAAAAAACAGAAUUAAUACAUGGGACUCUAAUAGAAGAAUUCUACCCUACAAAAAUACAACAAAGACUUUGAGAAAUUAUACUUAUCACAUUUUGCCCCACUAGAAUCCUAGCAACUAUGUACAAAAGAGGGUUAGAUAGACACUGUAUUCAAUGCAAUAGUUUGUUCACAAGCCAGCUCUUUCCUAUUACUCAUAAACCAAACAGUGUCUCUAUACAGCCACCCCAAGAAAAUGGCCAAAAGAGAAACAGACAUUAGGGAUUUUUAAGAGUGGCAUUAAGGUCUUUUACAUCAUAUUGAACAAUUUUCGCCAAUGCAGCAAUUCCAUGACGCAAUAACCCAACCGCAACAGCAAAUUAGGGUUUCUCAAAGGCCUCAAAUUCAUCCCCAAACCAUUAAUAAUUAUAACAACAAAUUACAAGAACGAAGAAAAUAUGAAAAGAAGCAGAGACCUGCUUGUUGGUCUGGGAAUAGUCCACCAUGUACUCAUAGGCAUCGGCCUGAGCAUUAACCCUAGUCUCAGUCCCUUCAACAGGCAAAGCAAAAGCGUCCAUGACGAUAAUGGCGUCCCCGUCCGUCUUGCCCUGCAUGAGGCCCAUGACCUCGAUGGUCCCACCGGAACGGGCGUGUACGACCAUCUUCAAGAGCGCGAGGGCGGAGAUCUUGACGCGCUUGAAGUAGUGGGGGUCGUUGGUCCAGGGCUUCUCUUGCUGGAACUUGGCCUGCGCCGCCUCGUCGUAGUAGAAUAUGGCGUCGGCCGACGGGUCCGCCUUCGACUUCGCCACGCUCGGAGGCGUGUCCAUGGGGAUUAUGUUGUUCUCUAGCUCCCAUGUCUGCUGGGCUAUUUGCGCGUCCAUGGUGUUUGUGAAAUUGACUCUAAGACACUAUUCGUUCUCUUUGAUGCAAUGUACCAGUGUGACCGACUCUGCGUAAUCGAGUGAAAUCGAUUUCCACUAAGGAAAUAAAAAUAAUAAAUUGCCACUGGGCUGGGUUUUGGGAUCUAUCGGAGAAGAUAAAGCCCAAUGGGCUGUAGCUAUUAUCCAUUAGCAUGUCAAAAGAGCAAAAUAUAAUUUUUUUUAUUUUUUUAUUUUAUACAAGCGAUAUUUGAAGGAAGAAUGAAUCAAACUUAGGACUUCAAGUGCAAGAGUAAAUGGUAAAUGCUUUUAACCACUUGAGCUAAUAAGCCCCUUACAUUUUUGUUUUAUCUUUGUAGAGCAAAAGAAAAUAUGUUAUCAUAUAUUUCAUCAUUUUAUUUUUUUAAUAAUUAAAACUUGUUUAGGAGUACUUUCGGAACUGCUAAAAGCACUUGUCUUACAAGAACGAUGUUUGGCAAAAAUUAUAAGAGUGCUUUGCAUGGGACUUAAUGUCAACAUAUCGGGCAUGCUCAAACAGAUGGUUUUCACAAUUCCAAUCAAUUUGGAAAAUUCUCUACAAUUUCCUUUCAAGUCUAGCUAAACGUAGACUAAAAUCCCAAAAAAAAAAAUUCCCAACAGUAGUUCCUACCUUGUUAACAUAAAUAAAAAAAAUUGGCAAAUUACAAAGGCUAGAAUACAAUAAAUUAUACAGUAAGGUACAAAAGCCACAAUUCAUUCAGUGUCAUUUGCCCCGUGACCUGCCUCUCCUGUUGUAUCUGCUGAGUCUCUUUCCCUUCUGCUUCUCAACGACGGGGGUGCUUUUUGAAUUCGGCUGGGUCAGCUCCUGUGAAAAAUAUUCAUCGGCCAUACUAGAGCUGUUUUGGGAGCCAGUGGUAACAAAAUCGUUGUCCUUUGUGACAUCCAUAUAAUUUUCAAUCGAUUCGGGUACCUCAAUACUAGCUUCACUCAAAGGCACGCCGUCAUUUUCCUUUGUUCCAUCAACAUCAUUUUCAUUUUUAUUGGCGACCUCGACAGUAGCAUUGUUGAAAAACUCAUGGGCUUCUUCCUCCACAGUGAGAUCUACAGCUACCUUCUCAUGGCUUGAGGUGACUGGAUUAGUUUCCCCAUUAAGUAUAGGGUUUUCUUCUAUACCCAAGUCUGGUGCGGACAAACUGAAACACAGGAAACCAGUUCACUAAAAAAUUUAUGUAGAUGAUGCAGCACUAAAGCAAUGGCAUCAACAACCGCUUACCUAGCUACCGAAGAAGGGAAACCAUUUGUGGUAUAAGCACUUCUUGAUCCAGUCACUUCUCCAGUUGUUGAACAGGUUAUGUCAUGUAAUUUUGAAUCUCCAACUGAUAAGUAAAUCGAGGUUAGUCAGUAAAUCUAACUCUUCUGCCACAAAAAUGUGCUCGAGUAUAAAUCAUGCAGCAGAAGGGUAAAAGGGAAUUUACCUUCUGAGGUUCCUCCUAUGUCUGUGUUUCGCUGUUCAGUCCAAUUAGAGUUCUUCUGCCCGCCAAAAUCACCAGCAACAGUAUCACUGUGACAUACAAGGGGAAAUAGAUGUUAUAAGCCAAAACAAUUACGGACCUAAUCAAGGGGCAAAAGAAAAAAAGAGGGGCUUAGGGAAAGAUCAAAAUCACAAUCCAAACCAGUGCAGCACAGAUGCUAGAAAAUGGAUUCUCAACUAUUUCUUUCCCACUUUAAAGUUUUAUUUAGAACCAUUCCUUAAACACAAAAGCAAAACAAUGAGUUUGAUGUUACCAGACAAGUUUGCCAUGCCUUAUCAUAUUGAGAUCAGAGACAGAUAUGACACCUUUAAGUAAACUGCAAAUGGACAUGCAUAACCAACAUCGUUAAGUAAGCUACAAACUGACAUUCAUACAUAAACUUGUAAUUAGAGGACACCUGUAUUCUAAUGACCAUUUUGUGUAUGCGUUGAAUGAUUUGUAAAAAUGCUACAGGAAUUAGUUAACGGAAGUUUUGGUUGACUAAUUAAGCUACCAUUGUGGGAAAGGGAUAACCUGGGAGCAGUCUUCAUAUCUUCAGAUGCCUUAAGUCGCUGUCCAGUGGUUAACACCCCUUCUAAGGCAUUCUGAGAACCUAUUAGAUGGACAAACUUUGUCAUUAGAAAAUCAACUAGAAUAUAUAGUAUUGAUAUGAAUGUGUGUAUGUGUGUGCUUGUGGGCACAUCUGUGCAGCAGAAACAAAUAAUCCAUCUGAAUCACCGUCAACAAAAGAUAAAAGUGGAAAUUACAAGCACCUCCUUUUCCAUCAAUUGCAGCGACAUCUGAAUCCUUCAUAAAAAGAAAAUAAGAGGUUAUAACAAGAAUCUGGUAGCUCAGAGUCUUCAUCAAAACUCAUUUUGAAAGAUGGAAAGAAAAAGUAUGUAUAAUAGGCUAUACUCAAAUUCUUGGGAACCUGAUUUUGUUCGGAACUGAUAAUAGCCGGAAGUGGCAAAGCUUCUUUCUGCAACUCGUACUGUGUCUUCUCCGAAACUGAGAGAGCAGAAAAUAAGGUUCCAUGUCAUAGAUUUCCUAUAUUUUAGUUUUCCUAUUUUCUAAAAAUUAAAGGGGAGUGUUAAUAUCAUUUCAGUAGGGGAGUACUAUCAAUAAAAUGAGAUAAAAAACUAAGGGAGGAGAGCAGGAUGACUAUUUUGGAAGGCUAAUAACAGCUCUGAUACAAUAUAAAUAUAUGCAAUAUAUUCAUAAACUGAUGACAAUAGAGUAUUGGACUAAACUAACAGACUUAGUUCAACCCAGUAAAGAAAACAUACCAUUGGAGCCAUAGGACGUAGUUACUCCAGAGGACAAGUUCAUGUUUGCACCUAUGGAAUUCUUAGAAUUGUGAAUUUUAUCUCCCAUUUCAACUUCUUGUUUUCCAUCCACCAAAUAACCCGAGGUACUUCUAUUUCCUAAAGUAGAUGCAGACCAAUCAAUUCUUGUUGAAGGUAGGGACCUCAGCAAUUCUUCUGUUGCCUUCGAUCGCACUCUUCGUAUUUCAUCCUGGAUAUUCCAGGACCCAGUGGCACGGGAGUCCCUUUUCAGCUGCAUUGAAAUUUCAGAAUGCACAAUCAGAAUAUCAAUAAAGAGAAUACCUCUACAUUUCUCUCUACCAAUCCAAAAGAUAUUUCCUCAUUUAUGUUUCACACUUAAAACAAAGAAAACAGAAAGAAUGCGUCAACAACUUCCCACAGUUACUAAAAGAAGAAAGAAACAUAUGUGGUUCAACAUCAACCUCCAAUGUGUUAUUUGUUAGUCUGCAUUAACUGUUAAUAAAUGGUCAUUCUGCAGUUAUAUGAGAAAAAACUUCCUUUCAAGCUUCAACAUGUACCCAGAUGUGAGUGCCAAUGCCUUGUCUUUGGACCCAACACAUUGUCCUAACACACGGAUGAGUCAUUGUGGAUCCACUCAACUCAAUAUUUAUCCAUUUAGGGUUAAUGAUUAGCUUGUUUGCAUCAAUAUUGAAUCACAACCUUAUUCAGGGGUUUCCCUGAAUUUUACAACCAUACAAGCUAUAAUUACUUGACCCAGCAUACACUACGGGUGGGCAUUCAAACCGGAAAACCAAGCCAUACACAACAAAACCUGACUUUUUUUAGUUACUACAAAAUUCUAGACUUUCUCCAUUAAAUUUGCAGCUCACCCUUGCUUGCUGUUCAUAGUUACACAGAACCAUAAAUACCAGAAUUUCUCUAACCCGCAUAAUCCUGAUUCAAGAAAAGUCAUCAUCUAAUUGAAAUAUCAAAACAUUAUCCAAUCCUAAAAUGGAUUGCUAGUCUUUGUUCAGUUUGAAAAUCUAUCUCCAGCCUCAAUCUUUUCUUUUAAAGAACUGCCACAUUUAACAUUACCCAGGACCUGGCAUCCAUACGAAGGAGUAAAUAACCUCCCAUUAGCAGUUUGAGUCUACAGUCCAAGUCCUACUUGUCACAAACUCAAAAAUGAAAAAGAUAUGACUACAAAAAUUCCAAAUGGUACCUUCAAUGUAGACACAGAAUUGCCACCAAUUGAAUAUGGGGUUUCUUCAUUGAAAAGUUGCAUCCCUGUUGAUGAUGGAGAUCUCAGUUCUCCAUGCUUAAUAGAAGGAGAUGCCCAUGGAGGACGUGCCCGCAUAUACAGCUUGGCUACAUCCACUGGUGAACCACCUUCGUCUUCAGCCCCCUGCACCAACAGAAUCAAAUUGAAAACUCAACCUCCUUUCCUUGCAUAUAAAACAUAAUGAUAUAAUGAAAGUACUAAAUUGAAAUAUAUCAAGAGACUUUGGUAUCUCUACCAAAUUUCUACCAUAAACUUUCGGAGAAGGUAUAGCAUAUAUCUUCUAUGUAGUUUUCUUUCAUCAAGAGAUUAGAAAGUUUAGAAUUGCCUAUUUCAACCAAGAUCUGAAUGAAAAGGGUUGUACUACGACAUAAGGGAAGAUUUUAUUCCAAAGAUAAGGAUCCAGACAUGGGGGAAAAAGUAGAAAGCACAUGAUAGCCAUGAGAUAAUACCAGAGGAAGAACACUCACUUGUGGGAACAUAAGAGAAUUUAAGGUGCAGGUUCCAUGAUCCGAAUCUGACUUUGAACUUGAUCCCAACCUCCUCUCCUUCAACCAUUUUUUUGCCUCCGUAACAGCUGUUCCGCAGAAAUCAGGCGUGUCUACAUCUGCAGUGCAAUUAACAACGUAAGUCAAAUAAGGAUAAUUUGUAUGUUUUUAAUCCUGCAAUUGUAACCACUUUCACUUCCAACUGUUUUGUUUGGUAUCUCACUUGGUCUUGUAUUCUCUGCAUCUUCAGCAGUGGUAAAACCUACGACUCUCGAUUUAAUAAUCUUUAUUAACCUAUCACAUUCUUCCCUGGUCAAAUCAAAGGCAAAGUUUAAGUCAAAUAACUAGUUAAUAGAAAUGACGAAUAAUUGGCAGAAAAGUAGCACGAUGCAUAACAAUUUGUGGGAACCUCCCUAAAAGACCAAUUUAAACCAACCCAGUCACUAUAGGGCUCACACAAACACUAUAUUCAUGAUAAGGAGUUUAGAAAUUGAAGGAAAUGUCAAUCACUCAAUGCAUGUCCUAAAUUUGAAGCGUGAACAACCACUUUCUACUUCGAUAGGAGAACCCAGGUUAGAAAUUAAUCCUGAAGAAAUAUUCGUUGGAGCAUAAAACAAGAUUCAAUAACUUAAUAUUCAUGGAAAUAAAAUAGGAACUUAAGAAGCUAAAUGCGGAAAAUAAAUCAAGGAUAAUAUAAAGAUACAUAUUCUGUAAAAACUUGCACUACAGCACAAGGGAAAACAAAUCAGAACACAUGGCUAAUAUAAGAAGUGGAGAAAAAUGAUGUAAGCAUAAAACAAGCACAUGUCCAAAUGUGAAAUAUAAAAAGAAGUACAAUGUUUUAUCUUUAAUAUCAAGGAAGGUGCAGCAUUACCUUGAGAAGGUCUCCUGCAUAAGCAGUUGUUCAAUUACAUGCUUGUUGUCGCUCUUCCCUAGUGUUGCUGGGGGCUCCUUCCUAAAGAAACUGAGCUUUCCUGAUGUCCCAUUCCUCUAAUUCAACCACAAAAAUCAAUAUUGUGUGUGUAAUAAACAUGAAAUGAAACUAAAAAAGCCAUAUAUGUAGUUGUCUUAUACACCCUAAAAUGACAAGGAACUUGAAAGAAGUUUCCGAUGUUAAAAUAAAAUUUUUAAUUUUAAAUAAAUAGUUUGAAUACAUAUACUGUAUUGAUGUUCAUAGUCCCUGGACAGUCCUGAAAUUCAUUCCUCUCAAAAUUCUUGGUAACCCCGUAUCAGAUAAAUCCCUUCUCUUACGCAAAUAAAUCCCCUACCACAUGCUUUUGCCACAAAGUUCUCUAAUAACUCGUCAAAAUCAGCUUAAAGCUCCAACUUCACUUCUGCAAGGAAAGUUCCACGACCUCCUUUUUAUUCCUAAUCAUCCCCACAACCCUAACCUACCCCAAGUAUACAAAUUCUAAACUAGUUUUCUACAACCUCUGUUUGGAACCAUAAUUUCAAGUGCUAGUCUGCCAGAGCCCACUACACUUGUGAAAAUACCUUAAUUUCCAAGUGAGGUGGAAUCCAAAUCCCUAGAAAAGUGAAUAUAUAUGGAAACUCCCAAAGGAUCGAGUUUUCAGUGUGGAUAACGGAAUCUGUUACCCCAUGUCGUAUUACCAAUUUAUCACAAAUAUCAUAUGAUGUGCUGAUGCAAUCUUCACAAAACUGUUCAGCUUAAGCAAUUCAGGUACUUAAAAGCACUAUACCAACUAUCUUGAGAGUCAGCAAACCACAAUCAUGGGAAAACUAACAAAUUUGAACAGAUAUCAAGUGCAGUGAAAAAGAGAACGCAUCCUUUCCAGUUAAAAAUCUCAGGUCGUUUCACUUAGAAACAAUCAGUCCCACUCAAUUUGCAUACUUACUGAAUUUGUUAAACAGUCUACUGGCAUCAUAUAACUGUUAAAAAUAUCUAGUGCAAGUUCUUCCAAAGAAUUGCCCAACUUUAAGAAUAAUGACACCUACAAUAAAACUGAAUAAGCAACAUUUAGAGCUAUUACCUUAUUCAGUCCAUCAUCUUCUUGAGUAGAAAUAUCAUCAUCAUCAACAUCUUCGUCGUCAGUACCAUCCUCUGAAAAAUCAAACACAAAAUUCAGUAACAAUGGCACGAAAAACCCCAAAACAAAAAGAUAGCUUUUUGCUUUACUAAAUCACAAAACUGCCAGGCACUUGGGUUUGGGUACCUGAAGAAGAGGAGGAGGAAGAGUCAGGGCUAAAUACAGAGGAAAUUAUCUUCCCAGCGCCGCUGGCAAUCAUGCGAGUAGGGGAGUAGAUGAGCCUGGAGAACCAAUUAGGGUUUUCGGGGCCAGGGUUUGCCAAUCUCGGCCGGUCGUACGGAGUCCUGGCACCGGCGACUCGUCUAGGGCGGACAAUUUUUCCGCCAGAUCGGGACUCCAGGGCUUGUCGGGAUCUGGAAAUGGUGGCCAUGCGCUCUCAUGCGCGAGACGAGAAGCCAAAAAGAGAGGGAAUGGGAACCGAGGGAAUGAGGGAAAGGGAUAGAAGAGUUAAUUGUAGAGAGAGAGAGAGAGAGAGAGAGAGAGAGAGUGAGGUUAAAAAGGGUGUUUUGUGUUUGUGCGUGUAUCGCAAUUUCUGUCCCUUCAGGAGAUUCAAUUCGUUUUUUAGGUUUCUAGCGGUUAUUAUUAUUAUUAUUAUUAUUAUUAUUAUUAUUAUUAUUAUUAUUAUCAUCAUUAUUAUUUCGAUUUUUGUCUGCGCAGAGAUUAGUGCGACUCAACUCAACCUUGUUAAUAAGAGGACACGUGGACAGCUUGUUUAGUUUCAAAAAAAAUUUUAAACAAAAAAAUAAAUCAUAUUCACAAAGAUAUUUUUUUUACUCAUCACACAAAGUCAUGUCAUCGUAAUGAGCUAUCUAUGAUUAAGUAUCAAAUUCACGUAGUAAUGAGUUAUCGAUCAUUAUUCAUUAAGUCAACUUAUGACAUUCUCUGACUAAUUUGUUUUUAAUUGUGUGUAAGAUUUAAAUAAUGUUUUUAUCUCCCGGCUGUAUAUGUUGGUAGUAGGUUAAUCUAUGUAUUUAAUUUAAUUUUAAGAUAAUAAUUAAAGAUUUCUACUUGAAUUGUCAAGAGUUCACACUUCACACACUAGGAUGUUCUUGGCAGCAAGGAUGUCCUGAAAUCUCUAUCAUAACUUCAAGCUAAUAGUAUUAGUGUGGAUCCUACGAUUAAUUGGGUAGGGACAGAAUGGAGGCGAUCUUCAAGCUAAUGACUGUCUUCUUUAUUGAAUAGUGGUUCAAAUAAUGACGAUGAACUUUCAUUGUUUACGGAGCAGUAAUGUGAGAGGGGCAUCAAAUGCGUCCACUAAAUUUGAGUCACAAAUAAUGUGGCAAAUAACACCUCUUUAAUAUUGCUAUUGCUAUGGUUGCGGCGGCGGGCGCGGCAGCCAAUGAUUACUUUUGCUAUGGUUGCGUUUACAUAUUUUUCAUGCAGAUUGCAUUGCGAGAUGACGUAAGAAGAAUAGUUGGUUUUGUCCCGUGUGCGAAGACAUAAUGUUACUUGAGCCAUUACCGUUAUUACCUUCGGGGUGGUCGAGGUGGCUGCAGCCCACGAUAUUUGCAGGCGGUAUAAUAACUACUGGUAUGCUUCUUUGCAAAUUAUUCAUUCUAUAUAUAUAAAAAUAUAGAGAAUGAUGAAAUAUUUAAAAUAUAAGAAAAUAUUUUUGGUUAAUUUAAAUAUUAAGAAUUGAAAUUAUUUAUUAAAUGAGGACAAUAUAGUAAAUUCAUAUUUUUUAAUUAAAAAAAUUAAAAUAAUAAAUAAAAUCAUAUAAUAUGUCCUGCUUUUAUGGAACACUAGCCUCUCCGCACGCGCUUCCGCGCUUGCGAGAGGUUUUUUUUAAAAAAAAAUUUAAAUUUAUUUUAGAAUUAAAAAAGAUAAUGGGUAGUUGUGUUCCAUAAAAAUAGGAUCCAUUAUCUGCUUUUUCUUUUUCUUUUUCUUUUUCUUUUUUAAAAUAUAAAAAAGUGUGAAUUUACCGUAUUAUCCUCAUUUAAUUAAUAAUUUGAAUUCUUAAUGUUUGCAUUAACCAAGGGUAUUUUCUGGUAUUUGGAAUGUUUCACCAUUCUCUGCCUUUUGCUUUAUAGAUAUAGAUAACUAUCUAUAUUUUGUUUUAAUUUUAAAAAUAAUUUUUUUUUUUUAAAAAGAAAACCAAUUGGAACAUGCUCAGUAGAUGAUUAUAUCAAAAGAGAAUUAUUAGUUUGAUUCUUCUUUUUUCAAUAUUAUUAGUAUUUUUAAAAAAAGAAAUCGAAUUAUCGGAUAUUGAAAUUAGGUAUACUUUUUAUCCCCCGAUGGGUUAAAUUAAUUAUCUUUUUAGAAAGAAAGACCAAAAAACAAAAAACAAAAAUCAACAUGCCCCCUAUGAUGCAAGUACAUAUUAUACUACUGAUUUGGCGCAUUAAUGGUUUUCGAGGGAUGUGGUUUCUCUUCUGCCAUACCUUCACGUUUUGGAUUAUAUAUGUAGGUGCAUGACAUUAUUUAUAGAAAGGAGUUUGUCGUUAAAGAGUUAUGCACAUGAGGUUCUAAGUUCGAUUUUCAUUUCUCUUAAUAUUUUGAGAAGUUACUUAUCCAAUAUUUUCUUUGAACAAGGAUAGUAUAAGAGAACACAAAAUCACAUUCAAAAAUCAGAAUGAAAACCUUACUAAUUCAAGGUCCAAUAGGUGUCAUGAUAUGCUGAUGCAUGCAACACAUAAUAAUAAUAAUAAUAAUACAUAGCCAAAUGCUCAUGAUGGGUGGGUUUCAAUUGAAACGUACACAUGCAAAAUUACUAAAAAAACGACCGAUAAAAUCAAGAUCAUUGACUGAUAAAUCAUUUGUAAAAGGAAAUUGAUUUGUAACUAGUGGUCUUAUGUUCGAAUUUCAUGACAUUUUGGUAGUGUAUGCGAGAAAUUCCACCCACCCUCUCUCAUUCUCAAUAUCGUUUGUAUAAAAAGGAAAAAAAAACACCUGUAACAACAAAAACGAGGAGGGGCCCUCGCCAGAUUUAACUUGGGCCUCAAACGUAUGAGCCCAAACUCAGGCCCAUGACUACCUUCUCUGAUGCUGAGGGUUGCGCUUGCGCAAUCAAACUCUUGGUGGACACUCUUAGCACCGUUUCCAACUCACCGACUGCGAGCCGUCGCGCAUUUCUUUGACCCAUAAAAUAAAACCCACAAAGCCACAGCAACAGCCUCCUUCAUACCCAAACCUAAACAUUUCUUUGGCUCUGCGAAAAAUCGCAUCGACUCUUCAGCGCGAAGCUCCAUAGCCAGACAGAGAGAGAAUGCCAGGCCUAACAUGCAACGCCUGCAACAAAGAGUUGGUGGACGACGCGGAGCAAAAGCUCCAUUACAAGUCUGAAUGGCACCGCUACAAUCUCAAGCGCAAGGUACCGUCCAUUUUUCAUCUUCUUUCAUCUGCGUAUAUAUCAUUUCUAGGGUUGUAGUUUGAUUGUUUUUGUUCAAUUUGUUGAUUAUUCCCCCAAUUUGCUGCUGGUUUAAGAUAGGAAAAGCAAGGGAUUUGAUCCCAGACGAUGGAAUAAGAAAACGAAUUCCAAUUUUCUGGGGCAAAUAUGUUUCGUUAGGCGUUUUAGUUUCUUUCUUUUUUUAUUGGAUUUCAAACAGAUAUUGGAAAUCUUUAUUGCUGGUUUAAGUUUGGUCCUGCUGAUGUCUUUUGGAUGCUUCAUUGUUUAAGAUGCCAAUCUUUGGAUUCUAAGAUUUUGGUCUAUGAGCAAAUAUCAGUUUAUGAAGGCAUGGCUUAUAAAGCUGAGCUGAAGUUGUCUUUAAAUCCACUUUUGCCCACAUGGGGGAUUAUAGAUUCUGUCUUCUAUUUUGGUUUGCGAUUAAUUAAUUUGACAUUGGCUACAAAUAGUGUCGUCUAGUUAGUACUCACUUGAUGAAAUUCUUUUAUUGAAUGUUGUUGUAUAUCAUGGCAUGCUGUUGUUGCUUUGUAGCGCAGCAUCGUGUUCGCUUACAUUAUUACAUACAUGUUUGAUUAUCUCUAAUAAAUUCUGAAGUAUUCUUUAAAAUAAUCAGGUAGCCGGUGUUCCCGGGGUGACAGAAACAUUAUUUAUAGCAAGACAAGAUGCCCUCGCCCAGGAGAAAAAUGGUUUAAGUGAAACCCCGAUGCUCUACAGUUGUGGUCUUUGUGGCAAAGGGUAUAGAAGUUCUAAGGCUCAUGCUGAGCAUCUCAAAUCACGAAGUCACAUUCUGAGGGCCUCUCAAGGGACCAGUGAUCAAGAAGAGAAGGCAAUAAUUAGGCCACUUCCCAGUCGUGUUGUGAAUAAAGCUCCCCCCAAAAGACAGGAAAGUGAUGAGGAAACUGAAGAAAGUGAAGAUGAGUGGGAGGAGGUUGAUUCUGACGAAGACUUGGUUGGUGAGACUGCAAAAUCUUUGACUGAAAUGAACGUAGAUGAGCAUGCCUCCAAUGAGGAUAUGGAUGAAGAUGACUUUGAGGAGUUGGAUCCAUCCUGUUGCUUUAUGUGCGAUCUAGAGCAUGAUACCAUUGAAAGCUGCAUGGUUCACAUGCACAAACAACAUGGAUUCUUCAUUCCUGAUAUUGAGUAUUUAAAGGAUCCAAAAGGCCUCCUUACUUAUCUUGGUCUUAAGGUACUGAAAUACCUUCUAUGUUCUUUUCCUGGAGAAACUUGUUCCCAUUUUGGCUUUUUCUUCAGAGAUUGGUUGACUCUUUACGUCUUAAAUUUUCAGGUUAAAAGGGAUCUUUUGUGUCUGUACUGCAAUGAUAGGCGCCAUCCUUUUAACAGUUUGGAAGCAGUUAGGAAGCAUAUGUCGGCAAAAAGCCAUUGCAAGGUACAUUAUGGCGAUGGUGACGAUGAAGAAGAAGCCGAGUUGGAAGAGUUCUAUGAUUACAGCAGCAGGUUAUUCAAUUUUGUCAAUGGCUAUUGUGUUAUGUUUUUCAUUGUAAGCAUUACUUUUCUUCUAUAUGUGUCGGUAUCUCUUAGCUGAUUUGCUUCUGUCUUGGUUUUCAGUUAUGUGGAUGAGGCUGGCAAGCAAUUGGUUGUAUCAGGUGAUAUGGCAAACAGCGUAGAACUUGGGAGUGGUGGCUCUGAGCUCAUCAUUACUAGAAGAUCUGAUGAUGGCACAUCAACCAAAACACUUGGUUCCCGGGAAUAUUUGCGCUAUUAUCGCCAGAAGCUGCGUCCAUCACCUACAAAUGGUACCGCCAUUACAGCUGCAUUAGCCUCAAGGUUUGUUCUAAUCCCUUAUGCUGGGUAUUCUCUAUAGUUUGACUAAACAAUUUGGAUCGAGCUGUCCCCUAUAUUCACGUUGGAAAAAAAUGAUAACAAAUCAUGUGGUGACAGAAGUUGUGUUCUGAUUUUCAGGUACAAGAGCAUGGGGUUGGCGACUGUGCAGUCAAAAGAACGAAUGGUCAGGAUGAAGGUACUGAAGGAAAUGAGAAGAUCGGGAGUGGAGGCUAUGCGCAGUAAGAUGGGAAUGAAAAGCAACGUCAUCCGGAACCUGCCCAAGAAUUGCACAUAUUAGUCCUCAAUUACUCCUAUUUCUGGAGUUGAAUGAAUGUUGGAGGCCCAGAGUUUCAGUAAGCACUUUUAAGUAUCUUGGGUGGGUUGUUUAAGACCGUUUGAGUAUUCAUAGCAAGUGGCAAGAUUUCUUUUGUAUGAACUACAAUUUACCAAUUGCAAUAUUUUGCAAGUGUUAUGGUAUGAAUGUCUAUGUUUUUGUACGAAAUAUAUAUUUUUUUCUUUCUAAAUAAUUAGAAAAACAAUUUAAAUAUUUAUGUUAAUUCGCAGGAGAUACUUCUUUAUGUCUGGGUUUUUUUCAUGGUUAUCUUCUGGGAAGAUUUGUCCUAUUGGUUAGUUUUGAACUAGGGUAUUUAACAGUAAGAGCAUCCACAAUGGAAUCCAUAAACCACCUCCUUAGAUAAAAUUUAGGAAGUGAGAAAAUCCACUUUCAAGUUCCAAUUAUGCAUCCUAUCGAACUCCUAAAAUAGGGAGACUUUUAGGAGCUCUUAAAUUUGAGAAGAUAAAAAACUCCUAGCGGCUCCUUAUAAUUAAAUGUUGCUUUAAUUUAAUGUUAUUUUAAAUAUUUAUUUAAUGCUAAUUAUUUUUAUUUAUUAUUUUAUACAAAAAAGGAGCAUUUAUGCAAAAUUAAAAAAAAAAAAUCAUUUAUGAUUUCCUAAACUAAGGAGCAUGGUUGGAGUUGAGAUUUUAUAAAGAGCUUCUAAAAUAACUUUCUAGUAUUUUUAGUUAAAUUUUAACUAAAAUAUAAGGAGCAUGAUUGUGAAUGCUCUAAGCAAUUGACAACGUUUUUGAAGAAAUCCCACGCAAAAUGGCAUCAUUGAAUAUGCUUUAACAAGAGAGAUGUCUUUGUCUUUGGAACAUAGGUGGAAAGAGAAUAAUUCGGUAGAAAGAAAAAGAUGCUGAUAUAAAUUGGUGACUCUAAAAAGUAAUUACAUACUAAUUUGUUUCUACCUUUACCAUUUAAUAAGAAAAUUAUUGAUUUGGCCAACAAAUUCUAGCCAGUGCCUAAUGAAAAAAGGUAUUGACUUGCAUAUCAAAUCCCUAUGACACCUUGGUCGUGUUUAUGACAAAUAGCCCCCUCCCCCUUCCUGGCAUUGGCAAAAAGAAAAUUAUCGAUUUUGAGAAAGAAAAAAGAAGGAAGAAAAAAUCCAAUCACAUCAUCGUCACCAAGCAAGAAAAGAUUUUCAGCCAUGCAUAUUUUCAGGAUUAUAAAUGUAAAAAUAAAAAGAAAAAAAUUAAUUUUAAAACUUUAAUAGGUGUGCUGAGAAAAUAAGCUUAAAGACUAACGAGUGUAGAGAGAGUGUGAGUGAGAAGGGGGGAAGGAGAUUUUGGUGACUACAGUAAACACUAAACUAAUCCACAAAUUAAUAAGAUAUGAAGCAAAGGCUACACUUUUUUUAAGCAACAAAAGGGACCCAUGGAACCAAUGGAUGUGUCAUGUAAUGUCCAAUCAGCACACCUCAUUGCAGAUCUAACAAUAUACAAUCCAGAUGUAGCUUGCUUUUACAUGUAACCAAACCACUGAAGAGAUCCACAGUAAUCCCAGUGCAUUCCACUUCCUUCCAAUGGAUCUCUUUCUUGCCCCUUCACUUCUACUCUAGUUAAGCACUGCCACAAGAUAUAUAAUACAGAUCUAAUGAGAUUUACUUGUUCACAAAAUAGUGUUAAAAUUCAUCGAAUUGAUAGAUGUACUGUACACAGAAAAUGAGUUGGUUUUUAUUUAUUUAUUAUAUACUGGUAUAGAUAGAUUACUUCAUGAAAAGGCCAUUCCAGGGAAAACUUCACCUGCACAAAAGAGGAUGCAUAAGAUCCAUGAGUAGAGCAUACCUAAUUGUCAUAGAAGCGAGAACGACGUCUACGUGAACUGCAAAUAAAAGAGCAAUAUGCAUAAGUUUUAGGUAAGGACUAGAAACCUAUAAACUCUACCUACUCUUACAAAACUAAAACGAGAGCAAUAAAGCUCAACAGUUAGUAUGCGCAUGUGCAAGUGCUGAGCUCCCCAAACCCCCACUUAAAGAGAUUCCUACUGGCACAGGUAGCUAGUUCAACAAGAAAAUGAAUCAUAUGGUGCAUUGUUUAAGUUUAUUUCAGUAAGAUGGUGUACUAGAUUUCUUGCAGCAGGCGUCCUCGCCAUGACUAGGUGGGGAUAUACGAUAUUAAAUGAUAAGUUAUGCGUUCCAAUUUAAUUCAUAAAAGUUGAUGUACAAACAAAACUGUAAAUAGAAAGAUACUAUCAGCCAAAUCAAGAAGGCAAAGAUUAAAAUCCAAAGAUACAAGAAUAAAAAGGAAACAUCACAAACCUGCGAUGACUGGAGCCACCCCUGGAGGAGCCAUUUGUACUCAUAAAAUCAUCAUCAGUCUCAUCUGCUCUAUACUCAGGGAAUUCAACAGAUGUCACAGAACCUUCAUCAGAAUUCGAAUUAUCGUAGCUUGCUCGGCGACUUCCUCUUCUUGCGUCACCAACUCUUGACCUUCUUCUGUUUCUAGAAUUUCGUAAGUUAUCAAAAACCUGAUAUAAGAUACAGGAGGUCCACCAGUUACGUUCGUCCCCAUGGAAGUCCUCAAACUCAUCUCCAGUCUCAUCAUCACCAUAUUCAAUCACAUAGUCUCCUAAAACCACCCCACGAGGGACUUCGGAAUGAAUAGUGCUCAAAACAUCUAUGAUCUCGGAGGACUGCUGGAAAUUAUCCCAAUCAAGCUGCCGAGCAGGAUCAAUUUUUGAAGGACGAGAAUGAGGAUGCUCUAGUUGAGCAUGUUUUUGUAAUUCCAAGUAUGUACCCAUAAACGUACAUUGAUGCUCCUCACAACAACGCUUCUUCACAUCUAGAUGUCUACGAGCCUUGUCAACAACAACCCACCCAGUAACUUCCCCCCUACACAAGGGACAAGUAGGCCUGCAAUCUUCUUCUGAUGCCAUUUGUUCAGUAUUUACUGCAGGACUCACAUCAGAUUUUGAAGGAGAUGACAUACCAUAUGCACUUUUGAAACGGUCUAAACAAUUGGAGUGUAAGUGGUUUGUAUCACAAACAAAAGCAUGGCAUCCUUUCUCAUAAGAUGAGCACUGAAGGAGUACACCGUUGUGAGGGAAAUCCAAACAUAUAGGACAAGUCACAUCUUCCCAAUUUGUAUUUAAUUCAACAUCUUCCAUAUUGAAUGAACUUGGUUGAAGCCCAACUCCUCUUUCAUUAGAAUCUUUAAAGGCCAUGAAGGGGGCUAUUAUUUAGAAUUAGCACAAGCACAUGACAAUGCACCCCACACUUGGAUCAGACACACCACUUAACCAAUGGGAAUUCUGAGAAUAAACUACACAAUCUUCCAGGUCAACAGUCACUUAUCCCAUACGAUAGUAUCCUACACAAGGCUGUAAAUGAUCACAAUAAGUAUGGGUGGAUGGUGAAACGCAAGCUAUAUGAAGAACUGCAAAAUUGUUCCCCACAUUCUAUACUCUGCAAGAAAAUUUCAGUAACCUAUAAUUAAAAACAAAAUUUCCACUGACUGGAAUUAUUACAGCACAUUAGUGAACCUUAUAAAGGACAUAAACCAACGGGAUAUUAGAUUGUAGAGAGCCAAGAAACACCAGUUUUGAACAACAUAAAACUCAAACCAGUAAAAAAAAACCUCACAAAACUGCUCUUAGAUUAGCAUAUUACCUUUAUCUAUGACCUAAAUGUUCAGCAUGAUAGCAAGAAAAGUAGGUUUUGCAGAGAAUCCGGACUAAAAAGUUUUGAACAGAGGCUGGUAAAACAUGUUCAGUAAGACAUUUCUUUUUUUCUUUGAAAGCAGCCAUGACCUACUAUAUGGAUUUAGCUAAGCUGAGUAACCAAACAAUAUAGAACACAAUAAUAUCUAUAUAUAUAUAUAUAUAUAUAUAAGAUCAAUCUAUUUAAUUCUUCUGAGUUGGUUUCAGUAGCCAAGAUGUUACGCGGUAUGUUUAUCUCCAAUUCUUCAGGUUUAGAGUUGAAUAGAACACCCAAAAGAAAAGUCAACAGGCGCAAACAGCCACCACAGGAAAAUCAAUUUCAAUAAGCAAUUUCUUCAGCAUAUUUUAAGACUAGUAUUUGACUUUAAUCAAAUUCAAUAACCCAUUACCCAUACGCUUCAUACAUACUAGCAAACCCGGCAACAACUCUUAACGAUUCGAAACUAUCCAUGAAGCUGAAAUGGGGUCAAUAACAAACUAAUCAAUCCAAAAUUAUUAACAUUAAAUAAAUUGAUUAAACCUGCAUAAACACCAAAGAUUCAUAGUUAUUCUGAGCAAAUAUGAAUCAGAAUCAAUAAGCAAUCACACAACACACACAACUGAUCAAACCAGGACUUGGGUAUUCAGUCAACUGGCAAAUGAUCCAACAAAACGACCAAGGCAGCAAAAUCAUUGAAGAAAUGUUAAAAGAUGAAACAUUUACGCUAAUGGGUAUUCACUUAAAUUAAAAAAGGCCCAGGCCAAAAAUUGAGGCACAACAAUAAAAAUUGGAAGAGAAAAACGAAACCCAGAAACUGAGACACAAAAUUUGAAACCUGGCUCACCUAAUAUGUGAGAAUCUUCGAUUGAAAAAUGCAAAACCCCUCUGGGUAGAGACAGAGAGAGGCAGGAAAUGAGAGAAUUUUAAUUUCCUUUUCUUUUUGUUUUGUUUAAUUUAUGAGAGUAAAAGAGAGCAUUCUUGGUCUCUCUUCCUUUAUGCGUGUGUGUGAUUGGGGAGAGAGGUCAGUUUUCUGAGGAGUAGGUAGGGUCUCUUUCUCUUUCUUCCUUUUUUUUUCCUUUCCCGAAAGGAUGAUAUAUAAAAGGCAAAUUAUACAUCCAAAUUUGUUGGUAAAAUGACUAAUAUACCCUUAUGCUUCUUUGACCAAACUCAUGUGACAGUGACAGAAUCCAUUAGGCUAGCAAGCCAUUCACACUGAACUUCUAUUUUUCAUAUGUGGGGAGUGGAUUAUGGAUUGUCUGCUGCUUAAACCAUAAAAUUUGUUUUUCUUUUUGGGUAUAUUCUAUAGGCAUGUAAUUUUGUUUUUCCUUCAAUUAGUUACUAUAUUUGAUAAUGAAUGUAUUUACAUACAUGUGUAUAUUCCACAUACAUUAGAAAAGUAUUUUUUUCUUGUUUAAUAUGUUGUGCUUUUAAAUUGAUAAUAGGAAUCACUGAUUAGGGAACUACUUUCUUAUUUAUUAUUUGCACUCUUCGUAUUAGAGAGAUAAUCAGUAAUGUGGUCAAUAUAGUAAAUAUGAUAUUCUGCUUAAGAAAUUUUUCAGAUAUUACUAAGCGUUACUGAAUUAUAAUAAUAUCUAAAUGAUUGAUCAAUAUAAAUCAAUAAGCAACAUAAAAGUAAAUCGUAGUAAUAAUUUCGUUUUCUAUCAUUUUGUUGGGGAUUAAGAGCUUCAUUUUGUCAUUAUUAGUAAAAGUUGCUUUUUAUUAUGUCAUGGUUCAUCAAACAUCAACCAAAGUUGACCCAAAAAAAACAUCGAUCAAAUUGACUUGCAUGUGAGGUGUGGAGUUGUACCCACUUUGGUGGGCGGUAACCCGGUUAAGUACUUGCAUGUUCCAAAAAGUCAAGCUCCUUGCAAUUCAUCAUUCUCCAAACUCCAAAGUCAAAUACCACUGUUUUUUUAUUUAUAAUUAAUUUUUUUAUUUAUCAUUUUCUUGUGUAAUAAAACGUCAUUUUCGCAGUAAACAACAAAAUAUUAAAACACCAAAAAAGAAAAAAUAUAAUAUUGAACCUUUCAAUAAUAUUUAUUAGACGUGCAAGUGUUAAUUGAUUUUCAUGAUCUCUUUCUUGUGACAUUGUUUAUUGAAAGAUUAUGUAUUAAAAAUGACAAGUGGCUGAUUUUAAUACCUAACUAUUUUAAUUAGAAUGAGAACCGAAUAAAGGACCAAAUCUUUUUUUUUUUCCCCCUCUCAAUUCUCUCACAUCAAUCGAAUUUCAUAUAGAUCUUAUGGUAUCAUGGAUUUCAUCUCGUGCUAGAGAGUUGAGAAAUUUUAAAAAAUAUUGAAUUACACAACAUUUGUUUAAGGAAGAAUAAAAGAUAGUCAACCUUUAAAUGUGAAUAUUAAUUCUAGAAUGAUAUUUCUCUGUAGUUUGCAUGCGAUUUGGAUUCGCUCAAACGUAAAUAGUUCAUAAAAAAUUGCGUGCUUGGAAUUUUCUAGUUUAAAAAUAACAUAAAAAGUUUUUUUAAUCAAUAAGAACAUAAAAAAGAUGAGAAAAUUACACACCAAUGAGCAAUGACUUUCACAAAUUGGUUGUAUUUAUAUUUUUAACAAGUUGGGUUUCUUUUUCUUUAUGUAUUUUUGUAUUUUAUUUUUUAAGAACAAGUCGGGGUUUAGAAAUAACUUAAAAUGAAAGGGAGAAGAAACCAUUUUAUAAAGUGUAAUACACUUAAUUUAUUCUUCUCUCUUGCCAAAGGAAAAUGAAAUGGAGAAGAAAAAUUGACAAAUACGAAUUUUGAUUUUACAUAAUUAAUAUUGUAGACCUUAUAUUAACCACUAUGCAUGAAAGAACCAAUAAAUUUUACAAAUGAGUCCUCUACAAAGUACAAACCACUUGGUGUGGUGUACAUGUGUAUAUGAAGUUAUGAGCCGAGACUGCUUAAUGCACAUACAACAACCAAACCCCAAAAUUGUUAUAAGGAAAACAAUUCAACCCCAAAAUAAAACCACAUCUAAAACUGACCUAAACCCUGAAACGCCAUUGCGGGUUGGUAUGAAUGUAUGACCAAUUGAUCAUAUUCUCCCCGCACAACCGGAACGGUGAAUGAACUAUUUCUGCUCCUCUAUAAUCCGGGUUACAAUGCCAACGGCAAUAGUGCUUCCUAAUGCCCUUAAAAAUGCCCUCCCAAGGGCUCUGGAAUUAGAGAACUCUUCCACACAAACUGGCUGGUGCAAAACAACCUGAAAUAUGAGCAGGAAAGGAUUGGUUACUAUUGAUACCAAAAGUACAGUACAAUUAACCUGCAGAACAGCAAGCAAUGGUUUUUAUCUUAUUCACCUCUACAAUGGCGUUCUGCUUUGCAGUAAGACAGCGAGGAGCCUUUCUUGCCACUUUGCCAGUCUUGGGAUCAAGUAAUGACGAUAUUUUUACAACUCUGGCAGCCUCCUUUGCAUGGUGUAUGUGAAAUUCCAACUGCUCAUUGCAGUCAUAUUAGAUCGCUUUCCAUAAAACAACAGUGACGCAAACAGCAAAAGUAAUUUGUCAUGCAAAUAAAAUACAGACCUGAGAGCCAAUUAAAAUUGGGGUUGUAACAUCCAAAACCAGCACCUUCAUUUCCAAAUGUUUUGCAACUGCAACUGGGAAACCAGGGUGACAGAGCACACCUCCUGCCAUCACAUGACCUCCAUCUAUGCCUUGCAGAGUAACAGCCACAUUGUCUCCAGCUCUCGCAAUUACACAAGCCUGAGAGUCACGUUCUAAAGAGCGUACGGUCCCUAAUUCUCCCGAAGGCAUAACCAGAACCUACACAAUUAACUCAUUAUGGCUACAGUACAAGGAAAAUACAAGGGUGGUGGAGCAAAGGAACUGUUCACUCAUAUAUAAUUGAUUUGGUUAGACCAGAAAUCUGAUUAUAAAAUGGAUUACCUGCGUUAGAACAUGCAUGAGCCUGUCAUCAUAUCGUAUGGAUCAACUUUAUCCAAGAAAUAACAAAAGAGACACAGACAGCCAAUUCAAUAGCUCAUGUCAAUAAAAACCACAGAGCAAUAAACUGUUGCUAUACAAGUAAGCAAUUCCCAUUGAACCCAAUUGCUUGAACAUACAAUUCGGUUUUAUUGGAAUUGUUUAUACACAGGACAAUGUUCUCUUGUCUGACUGUUAAUUUAGACCACACCAACGAAAUCCAAUUGUGUGAAUGUACUGUUCCAUUUCAUUGGAAUUGGUUCUCUUGUCAGACUGUUAAUUCAGACUACACAUUUAAAGUUUCAAACACGAUCCACCUGAUCAAUAGCAUAGAAUGCAGAUCAUCAACCAGUCUGAUAAAAGAAUAUUUUCCCAUAUGCAUACUUACAUGUAAGUAUGUACAUGUGCGUGGAUAUUCUUGAAUAUAUGAAAUCUAUGGUUUUAACUGAUUCACUGAACUAUCCAUUUGGGAAGGGACCAAAUUUUUAGUUAGAUUACUCACAACGACAUCUAGUACUACCCACCAACAUACCUUGAAUCCACUUCGGAGAGCUCCCGCUUCCAAUUUACCACAAGCAGAUACCUGUCCUUGUGAAGAAGAUUUAAUGACAUCACAUAUAGGCAUGAGCAGUGGCUUUGAAAACUCUCUUGUGGGAGGUUGGAGGGAAUCAAUUGCAUCCAACAGGUAAGGUCCAUGGUACCUGCAUUUCAGUUACCUCAGACUAUUUUUCAUUUAAAAGAACAGCUGCACAAAAGGAAAAGUUCUCCAACAAAUUUCAUUAAGAUGCUACAUUAUCUACUUCUUAAGGUGAGCUACUAUCAGAACAUGAACAUAGGAUUGCAUUAUAUGGGCCCUAAAGAAGGUAUUUUACAUAAAACAAGUUACUAUCCCAUUAUUUUCAAUACAAUGGCUUCCAAAUGAUCUGAAGAGUUCACAUAAGUAAAAGAUAAAGAUCCUAUGAGAGAGGAAAAAAUUCCAUAACAAAAAAAAUCUGCAAUACCCUAAUAUUAGACCCUAUAACUAAGCCCACUAAUAAACUAAUACCCACAUUCUAAAACUAAUAAAUAGAAACUAAAUAAAAAUAAGCUUGAUUUCUAAGUUUGCUUCUGCGUAUAAAUACUACUUUUCUUCUCGUAUCCAUCAUCAGUAGUGAUUUUGAGUAGAUGAAAAAGCAAGCAAACUCACCAAGAAGAAAAACGGACAUCAGAAGGAGCUUCUACCAAAUUCUGAUUUUCCAUGGCACUCAGUGGAAUCCAAGACACCAAAGAAUCUUUGAAGCCACAGGAACGGAGAAAUGUUCCAAGUCUCUGUUUAAUCAAAUCAAACCGAUCCUUGGAGUACUCAACAAUAUCCAUCUUGUUCACGGCAACUAUAAUUUGAUCAACACCAAAGCUUCUGAUAAGUUGUGCAUGCUCCUUUGUCUGUCCCUUGCUACCAUCCACACCAGCUUCGAAUGCGCCAACUGAAGCAUCUAUGAGAAGUAUCGCGGCAUCAGCUUGUGUUGCCCCAGAUAUCAUGUUUGGAACAAAAUCUUUAUGGCCAGGGGAGUCAAGCACAACAACAUGAUAUUUUCUGGAAUCAAAAUAUGCAACGGCCACUGUCAUAGUUAUUCCUCUUUCCCUUUCUUCUGCACUCUCAUCCAAUGCCCAAGCAUAUGCGAAAGAGCCCUUACCCUGAUUAAAUCAUGAACCCAAGUUGAACACAAGAUUCAAGAUUCUGAAACACUCAAAUACUAAAUUGCAAUGAGGUUACCUGUAACUUCGCCUCUUUCUCAUAUUUGUGCAUUUCUUUUUUAGAUAUCCUUCCCAAAAGAUGAAGCAGUCUACCUGAGAGUGUUGAUUUUCCAGAAUCAACAUGGCCAACCUACAAUAACAAGUGAAAUAAAAAUUGGCUUCAUUUCCUAUGAAGUAGUAGUAGUAAUAAUAGUAGGAGGAGGAGGAAUAGGAUUAUAAGACCAUAAUCAAGUGGCUUACUAUUGCAAGAUUUAGUUGAGUCAGUGUAUCUACAGCUUGGUCAGGGAGCAUCCAAUUUUCAGGUUUGUAGUCCGCUUGUGAAUGAGAUCCUCUAACAUUAACAUUAUUAGAAGAUCCAGAUCUAGCAUCCAAAUCCAAAUUUUUCAAGCCACUGGUAACACUCUGCUGCUUGCCCCUAAUCACAGAAGAAUUUGUGCUCCCAUCCACACUGUCAUGUCUGCUUCUUGGCUGCGGUGCCGACGAACUAUCAGACAAUCUACCAUUUGCUUGUAAAGUAAUUAUGUCACUACUUCCAUCAUGAUAGCUGACUGUCUGAUUCUCCAACUGGUUUCCCUCAUCAAAUCUAUCUUGUUUACUUCUUUGCUCUAUUGCAGAGGAGCUAUCUGACCAUUCAGCACUUGAUUGUCCACUAACUGCACCAUUCUUCUUAGCAACCUUCGAGGAAACUUUUGAAGAUUUCAAGUCAUUAACACUGGCUGCAAGUAAAACAUAGUAGAAGACCGUAUCAAACAUCUAAUCUAAGAAAAGCUAAACAAAUGCAUUUUAGAAAAAUGACCAAUAAAGCAUGUAGUCUUCUGAAAAAUAGAUGAUUAAAAGAACCUCUUAGUGCACUAGGCAAAUAUUAUAUGCAAUCAGUUAUGGUAGCAGGUUUCUUCUCAGUCCAGAACCAGCCAAGCAGUUUCUCAAUUACGGGCCUGAAACAACCCAUUGUUGAAGACCCCCAAACAAGCUCAAGCCAUGGAAAGUUCUGUCCAGGUUUGGCAAGAACUUCUAGAUCUCUUAUAUCAUAAGUUAACCUAUAUUAUAAGCACUAUAAAACUUUUAAAUUUCAAAAUAGCAUUCCUCUAGCGCUCUCCACAGCUUACUAUAUUAAUAUGGGAACUUUUCUCUAUAGACUGGAAAUUGUGAUUAAUAAAAUUCACAUCACAAUGGAACUUUGAUAAAAUAAGAAAAGUAUACCUUUUGAACCCGUUCUAGAGGACCACAAUCCAUUAGAAACCAAAUCAUCUGGGGAUGGAACAUCAAACUUGAAAGGAGCUGUAUCAUCAAUGCAAUUAAACUUAGAAGUCGCAAGAUAUAUGUCACAGCUAUAUCUAAUGAUAUUUUUUUAGAAGCAAGAUGGUAGAAUGCUUGGAUUAAAAAGCAUCUCUCAACUGUGAAAAUGAUGAUCUAAUUCUACUCCACAUCAUCUUUUGGAAAAGGGUGCAGACCUAUAUUAAUAUGGUGAUUGUUAUGAAUGUUAAACGCAUUAUAGAAUUCAUGAAUAGGUCCUUGGAAAUCCCCAAGCUUGUGGAAAUUAUUGCCCUCUUCUAUCACAAAAUCAUCUUUCUGCUGAUGAAAUAGUACAGCCUGUUUGGGUAUCUGGCACGGCAAUGAUGCAAAAAGAGACUUGGCCAUUAUGGAUGCUCCAGAAUCUUUGCAUCUGCCUUCAACUGCAUGAAAGAGAUCUACUCUAAAAAAGGGCAACGAACUUGAUUUUUAUUUUGUUUUUUAUAGGAUGCAAUGAACUUGAAAUGAAACCUGAGUAACAAGGACACUAACAUAGAAAUAUUUGCCUGAAACAGAUGAGAUCCACCCAAAGGGUGAUCUCAAAUGAAAGUUAGAUUAAAUAUAGUAUCCUUUCGCAAACCAAAAGAUACAUACAAAUUCUUCUUAUAAACAAGGGCUAAGGAAAAGGAGUGUCCUUGUCACACAGAACUCCAAUCAAAAAAUAAAAAUCAUACAGUAGCUCAAAAAUUAUAUUGUGAAGCCUAUGAUACACUUAUUACCUGUUUUCUUAUCACUAUUGCUUUUCACCACAGGGUUUCGAAGAACCCCACAAAUGUCGCAUGCAGACAUGCUCCCCUCAUUGUCGUACGUGCAAAUGGAACAACGCCAGACCUCAGGCCUUUCAGUUUCCCGCUUUGACUCAAGUGCUUUGCCUGUUAAAGCAAUUACAUGUUGAGCAGUUGGUAUAACAUAACAUGUAUAAUAUCAGCAUAACAGCUGCAUAUCUGAAGGGUAAUUAUUAGUAAACAAACGAUGUAAACAGAUAAAUAAGGAUUUAUUGACAGAGACUUCGCAGUUUACAAACUUAGCUAGCAUUGUUCUGAUUGCAAGAUAGCAAGGCAUCAUAUGAGAUUUUCAAAAAAUAAAAAAUUGGACAAGCCAACAUCUUCUAGAUUGCACACACAUCUUUCAAUCUAAAAGUGAAUUGAACCUUUGUGCUUUUUGAAGAUUGAACCAACACAACAGAUCACUGAAGCCAAUAUACACUUGUAUCAAAAAGGAAAAUAAGCAAGGGAAAAAUUACUCCAAAACCAGUAAAAUAACAUGCAGAGUGAAACUGAUCUGAUUACCCACUCUUCUAGUCAAUGAAAUAUAAAACUUAAAUACAUUAUCAAAUGGCCACUGUCAACCAAUGGCAAUAGCCUCAAGAAGAUGCGACUAAGGGCACAACCAAACAAGAUAAAGCCCGGGUGAAACAAUGAAAUAAAUUCAAGUUAAAAAAGUCACUAACCAUUCUUUUUUAUGACAGAAUCAUCAUCAUAAUCAUAAUCGUCAUAGACAUCGUAGUCAUCAUCAUAAUCAACUCCGUAGUUUACUUUACGAGGCAUGGUCCUAUGGAAAGAAGUGGCUCAAUUAAAGACAAAAGAACUUACAUACAGAAAGCCAACUUUAAUCCAACAACAAAAUGUGUAUACGUAACUGAAUGAACCAAAGAGGGACAUACCCAGAAGAUGCAUACACCGAGCAACCCUUAUGAGGGUUGAUUUAACAAAUGUGAACUUAAUCUAAUUCACAACAAUGCUUUUUCAAUGCUGAAAACUAUUGUACGAGUUUGAUUUUGAGCUCUGGAAUAUAUUGCUCUGUCUUUCUCCCACAUGAAUGAAGCUGCACCCAAACAUACAUGUCCACAAAAAAUCAGUUCUUGUUACAAAAACGCUCUGUUUUCUUAAAACAAUAAGAAUCUGAAACAUCAAAAACUGAAGCAACUUAGAGAAAAUAAAAGCAUAUUCGAAUCGACAGUUUUCUCAGCAACCAAGGCCACGUUUGGAACAACUUGUUAAUUACACAUUCACGCCGAAUGAGAUUUUGAGGGGAAAAUUCAGUUGAAUUUGCACCAGUCUCCACCCAAGUAAUAUCCAAUAAAAGAAAUUCGAAUAAAUAAACAAGCACAGACUGCCACACAUUGAAAUUCGAUGCAUUCCAACACUUCGCCGAAAGAAUUAGGGUUUACCUGGUGCAGAAGAAGUAGUGACGAGCAACGGAGAAGACGGGUUCUUUUUCUUUCUCUUCUUCUUCGUUUUCUCUGGCUCAAUACUGGACUGGAUAUCAAGGAGGAAAUUGAAGGAAGAGGUUACCUGAACACCUACUCUUUCUAAUAUAAAACGUUGAAACGAGAAAGAAAAAUAAAAACCUUUCCUGAUAUGCGAAAACGAAAAGGGUUUUAUUUAUUUAUUUAUUAUUAUUAUUAUUAUUGUAAUCGAUAUCAAUCAGGAAUGGUUCAUUCUAUUAUAAUUUAACAUGAUUUAACAUGAUAUGUACAAAUUAUAAUUUAACGUAAAAUAAAUUAUAUAUAUAUACACGUAAAAUAUAUCAUUUUUCUCAUAUUUUUUUAUUUUUUAAUAUUUAAAAAUAUAGAUUUAAAGAGUAGCCGGGCGGCUAUAACCUUUCAAUAUAUUUCAAUAUUUUAAUAGUCUAGCCGGGCGGCUAUACUCUUUAAAUGUAUACAAAUUUAUCUAAAUUGUAUAGCCGAGCGGCUAUACGCUUUAAAAUAUAACGAAUAUUUAAAACUAUAUUUAAAGGGUAUCGACGUUCGGCUAUACUCUUUUAAUAUAUUUGAAUAUUUUAAUAGUAGAGCCGCACGGCUAUACUAUUUAAAUAUUAAAUAAUAUAUGAAUAUUUAAAAAUAUAUUUUAAGAAUAUAGCCGCGCGGCUAUACACUUUUGAAUAUUUUAACAGUACAGCCUCUCGGCUAUAAUUUUUAAAUAUGUGCGCAUGUUUAAAAAUAUAUUAGUAUAGCUGCGCGGCCAUGCGUUUUUAAUAUAUUUGAAUGUAUUUAAUAGUAUGACAGCGCGGCUAUACCGUUAGAUAUAUACGAAUAUUUAAAAAUAUAUUUAAAGAGUAUAGCCGUGCCGGUACACUCGUGUACGGCUAUACUCUGUUCGCUGAUGGACUUGAACUCAUCUCACCAUCUGAACCAGGAGUUGUUUUUGUUGCAUCCACUAACAGGCGCGAAGCAAUUGUUCCGAAACUAGAUUUGCUUUUUGGAGUUAAAAUUGAAGUUACUGUACCUACUGAAGAAGAACGCUUUCAAUUUCUCAAGCUCAAAACGAGACAGCUUUGAUUCCAACGUUGACCUACAAGCCUUAGCUGCAUCUUGCAAGGGAUUUGUUGGGCCUGACCUUGAAGCUUUAGUUCGUGAGGCUGCUGUGCGUGCAAAUAAAGAUGUUGGUGUGUUAAGCUUAGCAACAGAAGAAUUGGAGCGUGCAAUGUCUGAGGUUAAAGCAAUUAUAACAAGAAGUGUUCCGUUGGAAAUCCCAAAGUGACUUGGGAAGAUAUAGGAGGAUUAAUAAAGAUGUGAAGGUAAAACUUGUAUUCCGAAGGUUAAUUGGGAAAAUGUUGGUGGUCAAAAAGAUGUUAACGGAAUCUGUAAUAUGGCCUAAAAAAGCACCAGGAUGCAUUCAAGCGGUUAGGGAUUAGGCCCCCAACAAGGAUUCUGAUGUUUGGUCCUGCUGGAUGCGGCAAAACCCUCAUGGCUCGUGCUGUAGCUUCUGAAGCACGGCUGACUUUCCUUGCUGUGGAGGGUCCAGACUUUUGAGCAAAUGGGUUGGUGAAUCUGAGAAGGCUGUGAAAUCCUGUUUGCAAAGGCAACGACUAAUGCCCCAGCAAUCAUAUUCUUGGAUGAAAUUGACAGUCUUUCUGCUAUUCGUCAGGGUUUAGCUUCAGAUAGGGUUACAAGUCAGCUCUUUUUUGAAUUGGAAGAUUUGCAUGCAAGAGAUGAUGUCAUUGUUAUUGCUGCUACAAGAAGGCCGGACAAACACUCUCAACACAAGGUACCACUGACUGAUCCAUGCUGCCAUGCAUGAUGCAUUUGCUUGCUUGGUUGCUUUGGACUUCAUUUGUACUCAAGAAAAAGAAAAAGUAAUCAACUUCAUUUGGAAGUGCUUCUUCUAAGUUUAUCUGAUUUUUUGCAGCAGGUUUUCAAGCCUUGGAAAGUUGAGACAUUUGAAGAAGAUGGGAUUUUGGUUUUGGAGUUUGGAGAGACACUUCCCAUUGGACCAGGAGUUCUGGGUAUUGGGUUUGAAGGAAUUUUGAAUGACAAGAUGAAGGGAUAUAUAGAAGGUGUGUUCUUUGAAUUCUGGGUUUGUUAAAUUGUUACACAGUCAAUAAUAUUUUACAUUUCAAUGGUAUAAAUAUGUUUAAACUUUGAUUCAUUCUGUGCAGUACAUAUGAGCAUAAGGGUGAGAAGAAAAAUAUGGCCGUUGCAUUUGAACCGGUUGAUGCCAGGCGGUGCUUUCCAUGCUCUGAUGAACCUGCUUGGAAGGUAGUGAUUUUGUUUAAAGCGAUUCUGGAGACUUAACAUAGUUGUAAUUUCAUCUUCGAGUCCACUAGUAAAGAAAGAGAUUUAAUUGACCCCGUUCAUUCUUAUCGGAACUUUGAUUGACAGGCUACAUUGAAGAUCAGAUUGUAUGAUGUUCCAUCUGAAUUAGUAGCUCUCUCCAACACGCCGGUUGUGGAAGAAAAAGUUGGACAUCUGAGAGCAAGCCCAGCGCACCCAACAAACCGGGCCAAAGGCAGCCCGAGAGAAGGAAGACCAGCUCCAGCGCGGAAGGAGAAGCCCGGGCAAGGCGUGGGUCCCACCAGCCCGGGCAGGCCCAAGGGCGAAAUCAGACUGGGCUCGAGCCCGAGUUGGAUGACGUCAUCCAACCCAGUGUCCAACGGUAACCUGCCACGUGUCAACACCGGGUGGCUCCGAUUAGUUUUUUUCCAGAAAUCCUACGGUUCUCAUUUUUUUGGCCAAAAAUAUUUUAAAAAAAUCCUAAAAAAUCCGAAAAAAUUCUGAAAUUUUUUUAAAAAAAAUACCAAAAAAGUAUGUAUUUUUUCCCUAUAAAUACCUAACCAUUUUAUCUACUUUCAACACCAAAUCUUCAUACAAUUUCUUCUCCAUACAAUAUUUUCUACUCUCCACUCACAUUAUUCAUUUUCCACACCAAUUCUCCAUACAAACUCAUCUCCUUCCAAUAUUUUUUACUCUCUACUCAUAUUUUUCACUUUCCACACCAAUUCCAUACAAACUUUUCUCCUUCCAAUAUUUUUUACUAUCCACUCACAUUUUUGUACUACUUUCCAUUUGUAGAAAAUAAACAAAUAGCAUCUUCUGUCGAAAUCGGAGGCUCGUGGUCAACCCAGGAAGAUAUUGCGUUGUGCGAGUCUUGGGUGAACGUUAGUCAUGACCCUAUCACGGGCAAUGAGAUGAAGUUCCAUCAUAUGUGGAGCAAAAUUCAUGGAGAAUUUUGUCAAAGAUCGGGUUCUAUUCGGACCGAAAUGGCUUUGUCUAGUAGAUGGAAACUUCUAAACAAAGAGUUAGGGAAAUGGAGAAAUGCCUUGACAAAAGCAAAGGACAACAUUCGGAGCGGUGCGAAUCUUUCCGAUGAGGUAAAAUAUUUUUAAUUGUCAUUUUAAUCAAUUUAAUGUAACUUUUUUUUAUUGCAUAUUCUAUUUCUUUUUGUUGCACAAUGUUUAUUUUAUUUUUGCAUUUCCUAAUUGGCUUUAUUUAUUUACAUAAUCAAUUUUAUUCUUGCAUUUCAAAUAUGUUUAUAAUUUCAUGCAUAAUCUUUAUUUUUUGUUUUUGCAUUUUCAAUUUGUCUAUAUUUAUUUACAUAAUCAAUUUUAUUCUUGCAUUUCAAAAUAGUUUAUAAUUUCUUGCAUUGUAUAUUUUUUUAAUGCACUUCCAAUUAUUUAUUUUGAAUAGAUCAUAUAAGCACAAAUGUGGUUCGGUGCCAUGGGACAAGGGAAAAAAUUUUUGUGCAUUUCCAAUGUUGGGAAAUUGUCAAGGAUUGUUCCAGAUUCAAAAUUAUUCUUACCGCACCCCCGGUUGUGUUGCAUGAUACGCCGCUCCACGAAUCGCCAUUAACCGAUUCACCAUUGGACUCCCCAAUGGAAACGGAGUCACCACUCCCACGUCCGCCGAGACCUAUUGGGAGAAAGGCGGCAAAGGCCAAGAGAGGGGGCACUUCGAACAUUGAUUGUGUUCAAAUAUUCGAGCAAAUAGCUAAGAACAACUCUCUAAGAUUGGAGAGAGACUUGAGGAGAGAUGAAGCGGACAAGGCACGAUUGGAAGCCUUUGCAAUUGAAAAGCAACAUGCAAAAGAAAAAGACGACGAUGAAAAAGAGAUGAAAAUCAUGGCCAUGGAUACGAGCCAUAUGUCUCCUGAAACAAAGGCCUAUUGGAAGCAUAAACGAAGGGAUGUGAUGAGAAGAAAACUUUUCCAUGACGACGGACCUAGCAAUACGGAUUGGCUAAAUGAUGAAAACCAUUAGAUUGUAUUGUUGUAUUUUUUUAUAAUUGUUGUAUUUUUUUUAAAUUGUUGUAUUAUCCUUUAAUUUGUUGUAUUGUUUCUUUUUUAUUCAAUCAAAAAAGCAUUCUAUAAUUGGACUACUUAUUAAAAACAUUUGAGCAUUCCUCACAAAGAUUAAUUAAAAACAAACCUUCAUUUAUUGCAAACAACACACAAAACAAACCAUACAUAAAAGCAUAAUAAUAAAAAAGACCUCGCAAUAAUUCCACAAAACACAACACACAAAAACAAAGCAUGAUUAAAAAAAAAUCAUAAAUCCAAACAAAGCACAAAUCUAGCCUUCAUCCAUUGUGAUUGCCUUUCAUCUGCCACAAGUGCUCGAUCAAGUCAACUUGACGUCUUUCGUGAACAUAUGAAGAUUGCAUUUCUUGAUAACGAUCAAUCAUGGGGUUGUUGAAUCGACCAUCCUGAAGUAACGGUUCGGGCUCCAAUGGUAGUCCAUUUGGUCCUAUCGGCCUUUCAUAUAUUCUUGUCAACGCCGUGUUCAUAGGAUCGGGUUCAAACACCUCUGGAGCAUCGUAGUCAUACUCAUCCUCCACAAUCAUGUUGUGGAGGAUGAUGCAAGUCAUCAUAAUACUCCUCAGCACCUCCUCGUCUAGCAUCCGAGCAGCACCCCUGAUAAUUGCCCAACGAGCUUGCAAGAUACCGAAACACCUUUCCACGUCUUUCCUGUAACCUUCUUGAAAGGAAGCAAAGCUUCUUUCCUUCUCGGAUUGGGGAUUCGGAAUUGUUUUCACGAAUGUCGUCCACCUAGGAUAAAUUCCGUCGGCAAGGUAGUAGGCCCCAGAGUAUAUGGUAUUGUUGAUUUGGUAUGUGACCUGAGGGGAAUGACCUCGCAAUACCUCAUCGAACACCGGGGAUUGACCAAGGACAUUGAGGUCAUUCUGAGAUCCGGCAACCCCAAAAAAGGCAUGCCAAACCCAAGUGUCGAAUGAAGCUACGGCCUCCAAAAUGAUACUUUUUUGGCCCUUCCGAUUCCCAUACUCUCCUUGCCACGCAGUAGGACAAUUCUUCCACUGCCACUGCAUGCAAUCAAUGCUUCCGAUCAUUCCUGGGAAACCUCGAGCCUCGCCUUUUUGUAGAAGCCUUUGCAGGUCCCUCGGAGUGGGUUUGCGAAGGUACUCCCUCGUGUACAAAUUUUCCACUGCAUCACAGAAUCUCACCAAGCACUCUAGGAUAGUAGAUUUUCCCAUCCUUGCAAUCUCAUCCACCUGCUCUGCAGAUGCCCCAUAAGCAAGCAUCCGCAAAGCAGCUGUAAGUUUUUGCUCCGGGAUAAGACCCAAAACUCCAACAGCAUCAUGCUUUUGAAUGAAGUAUGUGUCGUAAUUCCAAAUAUCAUGCAUGAUUUUUUGGAACAAAUGUGGCUGCAUUCUAUAUCUCUCUCGAAACUUAUGAGCAGGAUAUAACGAAUUUGGGAUAAAGUAAUCCUCCAAGAGAUUCUUACCCCGAGACUCUCUGCGUCUGUCCACAUUCGGGGCACGACGACGAUGGUGUUGGCUUGAUUGAUUCAUCAUACACACCGCCGCUACUUCAAGCAUUUCUUCCUCUUCUUCAUCGGCGUCCCGAUCUUCUUCCUCACGUCUACGCCGGAUUUCUUCCCAUUCUUUCUGUUGCCUCUCCAACACCCUCCUGAAGUUUGACAUUGAGAGUAUAAUGGGAAAUUGUAAAAUCUGAGAAAUGAAGGAAUAUAUCAGAGAUGGUGUGAGAGGAGUGGUGUUGAUGGUGUAGUUAUAUAGAAGGAUUCAGAAGAUAGAGAUGACACGUGGCACAAUUUUAGAGGGUGAAAAUCUUAUCUGAAAUCUGAGAUCACUAUUUGUAAAAAAAUAUCUGAAAAUCUUAUCAGACAUGGGACACGUGGCACAAUUUUAGAGGGUGAAAAUCUUAUCUGAAAUAUGACAUUAUAAUUUUUUAAAAUUAUCUGAAAAUCUUAUCUGACAUGGGACACGCGGCACAAUUUUAGAGGGUGAAAAUUUUAUCGGAAAUCUGAGAUUAUAAUUUUUAUUAAUGAAUAUCCGAAAAUUUUAUCUGGAAUAAGACACGUGGCAACCGAGAUUCACAUCCGAAAAUCUUAUCCGAAAAUUUAAUUACAAAAAAUUAUCAAAAUUAAUGAUUUAAAGUAUUAAAAAAAUAGGAAAUAAAGUACAAUGAAUAGUAAUUGCCCUAGACUUGCCCUAGACUUUGCCCUUGUGGGUGGAACCACAAAUGGCAAGGCUGACACUAUUCACGUGAAUAGUGUCAGCCCUUGCUUGCCCUUGCUUGCCCUUGCCUUAGACUUUGCCCUAAGGGGUGGAGUUGCUCUGAAGGCAGUUUCAUUUCAAGCAUCACCAAUCAUGUCUACAUAUUUGGUGGCCGUUGUUGUUGGGUUGUUUGAUUAUGUUGAAGAUCAUACAUCUGAUGGUAAACUCAUACACAAUGUCCCUUGUUUUGUGUGUAUGUUAGUACAACCUUUUCUUGGUGGUGUCACUUUUCAUCUCGUCAUAGGGGUCAAAGUGCGGGUCUAUUGUCAAGUUGGUAAGGUGAACCCAGGGAAGUUUGCUUUGAACGUUGCUGUCAAGACUUGAAUUUUACAGAGAGUAUGUUUUGGAUCACAAUACUACAAAAAUUACUAAUCAUUCAUAUUCAAAUUUGAAGUUACACUUGAUGCAUGUUGUGGAUUAUAAGUACUAGUUUCUCUAAUUUUUUUUCCCUUCCCUGCUAAUUCUGCAUCAUUAUAUUUGACAUUCAAAAUUGAAUCAUUGACGAAAUGUUCGACAGUUACUUUGCUGUGCCAUACCCUUUGCCCAGAAUUGUGGUUUAGAUACAUACCAAGAAACAGCUUUUGCUCUUUGAUGAACAGAAUUCUACAGCUGCCAACAAGCAAUGGGUUACAUACACAUCCUGAAUGUCACUCUAGCUUUCAGAAUUUAGCUUGGUUCAUAUGAUAUGUAGCUGUUGUUUUUGAACCCUAAAGAAAUGUUUAAUCGUUUCAUUUGGAAUUUGUGAAAGGUUGCAACUGCAGUGCACAUGAAUUGGCACACCAGUGGUUUGGCCAUCUUGUAACGAUGGAAUGGUGGACACACUUAUGGCUGAACGAGGGAUUUGCAACAUGGGUAUCACUUCAUUUCACUUGUUGUAAUUGUUAUUUUAUAUGCUUUUGGACUUAAAGUGAGUAUUUUAAAGCCAUUACGUGAGCUAUUUAGCUACGGAUAGCAUGUUACCAGAGUGGAAAAUGUGGACUCAGUUUCUUGAUGAAAUUACUGGGGGUCUUAAGCUCGAUGGGCUUGAAGGUGUGAGAAUGUGAAGGUAAAGAGUCCCACAUUGGGAAGUUGAGAAACCUAGCAAGGGCUUAUAAGGAGUUGGGUUACUCCCCCCAUUGCCAAUUGGUUUUGGGGUGGAACCUCAACUUCCUUCAGAAGGAUCUCACCCUAUUGAGGUAUUACUACGUGGACUAAGUCUUUCCAUGGUUUUAUUUUAAUUUUGUUGUCCAAAAUUUUGCUCUUUGGCGGCAUCAAACCUAGAUCACCUGCAUGACAGGCUUUAAAUAGUAAUAUUCACCACUGUACUUUGCAGGGCAUAAUUUAUUGAAGAGUAUUAGUAUAUAUGUGUUUCGGGUAUAUUAUGUUUUAAUCUUUCUUCGUUUUGGCCAGGUGGAGAUCAAUCAUGCUUCUGAGGUUGAUGAAAUAAGGGAGCUUCUGUUAUCCGGAUGCUACAGAACUAUCUUGGUGCUGAAUGCUUCCAGGUUGGUACUUUAGUUUGUUAGCAAGCAUCCUUGAAGAUUGAAGCAACUAUCUUAUUUUCUGAAAUUUUUACAUUUAUGUCAUGGAAAUUUCCAAAAAAUCAAGGCUUCUGGGCAUGCAGGAUUUUUAGAGGAUAGAGAUCUUGAGGAGGUUGUUGGAUUGUGAUGUGAAAUACUGAGCUAGCUCAAUAUCUAGUUCUCUGGCACAAUCGGGCGGACCUUAAUUAUAGCCUUUUUUUUUAAGUCAGAAGAACUUAACCAUAGUCUUUUAGCAUAAAUUUGAUGCUGGGCUGAUCUUGACCCUUAAAAUCUAUCCAUACUGAACAUAAUGGCUGUGGUAUAAUUUAUGUCUGUCUUUACAGUUAACAAUUUAUGCUAUAUCUAAACAGUAUAGCCGCCCGGCUAUACCCCUUAAAUUUAAGGAGUAUAACCGCACGGCUAGACUGUUUAAAUAUAUUGGAAUAUUUUAAUGGUAUACCCCGUUCGGCUAUACUCUUUAAAUAGCCGCCCGUUUAAACGUAUAGCCGCGCGGCUAUACUUUUUAAAUAUUUUAUCUUUAAUAUUUAUUUAUUUUUCUGUAUGAUAUUCCAGUAUUUAUUCAUUGGUACUUGGACAACUUAUAAAAAGAUAUAUUCUGUUCAUAUGGCGAUUCUUCUGGCCACGGUUUAAGAAUAUUAUGAGCAGUGCACGUGUGCCGACUGUAAUCUUGAAGGUUCUUUUUCUAAUUUUACAGAAUAAAGAGAGUUUCAAAGUUAGAUUAGCUUAAUUAUAUUACCUCUGUUUUUGUUUUUUAAUUUAGCAAUAUCUGAGCUAUUGUUUUAUAUAUUUGAGUGAAUUUGAAGAAACAAAAGGAAAAAUAAUAUCAAUUUAGUUAGAUAAAUUUUCACCAUUCGAUCAAUUAUCUAACUUCCCCCAUAAAUUAACUUUAUAACGUUCAUAAAAUCCGAAUCAAAAGGAGAAUUUCGUGAUUUGCCCCAAAAACUGCAAUUGGUUUGCAGAUAUCUAUACCAAAUAAUGUUUCUAUACAGAUGCAGCAGUGCACGUUUUUCAUAUACAACAUUUGCAAGGCAAUUUACAACUUGAUACAACAGGCUGUCGUCCAAUAAAACGGUGUAAGAUUCGUCUCGUAUAAUAUACUCGUUAGGUAGUAAAACUUUGUCAUGUUUUGCAGCUAACUCCAAAAAACUUUGGUCUACCUAUCAGCUAACACAGACUCACUCCAUGAAAGCAUCAGAUCUCGCACAACGGUUGGAAAAUCUGCACGUCCCAACACAAAAAAGAAAGCCGAAUGUGGUCAACAGAUGUGAUACAAAUAAUUUUGAUCAUAACCUAACAUUUGAGUUUAAAAGGGUUAAAUGAAGUUCUUACCUCGAGCUACUUCCACAGCAACUGAAGGUACGUCUAUCUGAUCCUCAACCAGUCUAUACACAUCCACAAGCUAUAGAGAAUGGCAUAUCAACAACAAGCUUGUCAAAAUUUAGUCCUAAAGAUUAUGUUUUUCAUUUUCUUUCUUCUUCGUUUCUUCAGAAAAUAAGAAAAAAGAGAGGUUCUCAUACCUCUUGAAUGUGAAGCUUUGAAUCUUCUGUCAAAGCAAGAAUGAGCUUUCUACGAAUUCCUUCGUCGAAAAUGAAAAGGCGAGCUCCAUCUUUGAUGGUGUCAGUGAGGUCCAGUUUCCUACUGACUUGCAAAUCUCUUGACCCUUGCCUGCACAACAUAGCCAAGAAAAUAUAACCAUCUUAAACUCCGAAGAAGAAGAGAACAAACAAAUUGGCAAGUAGGGCAUGAUCAGAUACAGACAUGUCUUUUGCUUGGAAUGCAGGGUUGCUGCUCAAUUUGGUCACGUUUUCUUUGGCAAGAACUAUGAGGUUUUCUAGCCGCUUCCAUUGGAAAACACCAUCUUUAAAUAGAACCUAAAACCAGAAGCAGAUUAUUAUCAAAGGAUUGCAAUUUCAGAACCAAAUCUAUAUGGUUGAUGAUUCUUGGACAUGGCUAAUUGAAAUAACAAUAUAGUAUAAGAAGAAGAAGAAAUGCAUAAGCUCGACCAAAGAAAUCAUUUUUCGAAACCAGGGGAAAAUUGAGGUGUUGUGGUUUGAACAAGUUAGGGAAAAUAAAGAGAAACUGAUAAGGCCAGAGAAAAAGGAAGAAGGCAAAAAGGAGAAAUUCAAAGUUUAAUUCAUCCCGUACCCAUUACUGAACAAGUUACGGAAAAUAAAGAGAAACUAAUAAGGCCAGAGAAAAAGGAAGAAGUUAAAAAGGAGAAAUUCAAAGUUUAAUUCAUCCCGUACCCAUUACAGACUAUUCCCUUGUCCUGAUACAAGAUAGGAAAGGAAAAGAUGUCCAAUGAUUUGGGGCUGACUGUCUAACGGUACUCCUAGGUUCAUGGAGGAAUCCUAUACAUUUAUUCUAGCAUCAUCUAAAGGAAAAACAAGGUUGGGCUUGAGGGAAGGAAGGCUUUGACGAUAUUGUUUAUAGAUAAUUGGUUUUGAUGCUUAUUGAGUGUCAACAAAAGCUUUUUCAUAGCAAAUCAGAAAAAUCCUCAAAAUAAAACAUAGUUGUUCCCAUGGAUAACACUGCUCAUUUUGUUCAGAGCAAGUUCUCUUCUUUUCUUUUUUGAACUGCAGAGCAAAUUAAUGAGAAUGAAAGGUUCUUGAACAUAUGUAGGUUUGAUUCAAAAUUCAACUAACAGCCAUCUAAGGACAUUAAAUACAAAAUAGCUUUGAACUCACCUGUAUGAGGCGUUCACGUAGAGCUGGGUUUGGAUCCGUUAGGAGGCGCUUUGCCACAUAUGGAUAGGCAACCUAUUUGAUUGAAUAAUGUUAAGAACAGUAUGGGGAAAGAAAGCUUGUCAUACAACAAAUGGCUAUCACCGCAAUAACAAAAUUUGUAUACGAGAAAUGAGGUUUCUAAUUGCAAAACAUGACAGGCACUCCAUUGCAGCAUUUAGUAUACAUAACUAAAAGUAAUUUAAAAGAAAGUUAACAUUGGGUUAAAUGGUCUAUAAGAGAAAACUUCUACAUGCCUAAUUUCAUCCGUUAGAAAAGGCGUAUGAGAAAAAGAAAAAGAUCUACGCUUACCUCAAGAAAUUUGAAGUCUGGCUGCAAAGUAAAACAGAUGCCCUCUUGAGUCAAUAAAGAACGGAUAACAAGCGAAAACCUUUCUGGGAUACGGAUGGGAUAGUUGUAGACUAAUUGGUUAAACUUCCCUGCAUCAAAGCCAGAAGAAAUCAUAUUGAAUAUUACAAACUACAUAAGAAAAGAUAAACACAAAAUGAGCUAACAGAAGACAAUUAUCUCUUUCCCCCACAGCAUCAGAAAACCUUGCAGGCAACUAAAUCAUACCUAAAUAGGGUAUAAUUAAGACGAAGGAUUAUAUGCAUAUCAUAUCUACACACACUCACACAAGCACAGACUUCCACAGAAAAAAAAGAAAAACAGGAAUACGAAUCAAAAUUAUAGGACAUGAAAUUACCGGUAACACUCCGAAAAUUAAAGUCAGACAGUCCUUUUCCAACAGAGUUCUGCCAUAUCGAUUCUAAAGCUGGAACAAUAGGAGAGACAUCAGUCCCAGGAGCCAAGAAGCCAAGUCGAGUGAAGUCAUUUGCCAUCUCAACAUAGUCCUCGUUUACAGCAUGGACAACAGCAUCGAUCAAAAUUUGUUUAUUUUGCUGAAAAAUAAAAGAUAGAUCAAUAUGUAGGCAAGGCAAAUUAAGAAAAACUAAAGCAUAAUGGAAAACUAACAGAUACAAAUGCGUUCUUAUUUUUCAUAUAGACCAUUGAAAUGUACUAGUUUUGGUGGCUGGGCUGUCCUACUGGUAUGGAUGGUUACUACGUACUAUGUUAAACCCUCACAACUAUAAGAAGAAUACAUUAAAGAUUUCGAGUUUUCCUAUUAAAUACCAUUGAAGUCCAUAUUUCACCUGACUAAGAACAGCUACAUUCCCAAAGUCCACGUAUGCAAUACGUCCAUCUUGCAUGGCAAAAAUAUUUCCAGGAUGUGGAUCUCCAUGGAACAACCCAAAUUCUAGCAAUUGCCGCAAUGCAGCACUGACUCCAACUGUUAAGAACCCAUUUACGUCAAUACCAGCAUCUUUAACAGCCUGAAAUACAUGGAGGGAUAUUAUUGGUAAAGAUAUAUCUUCUCAUGUUUCUUUAAAAUAGCACUGUUUAUCUUGACAAUCGUACCUGUGGGUUAGUGCACCGAAUACCAUCAAUCCACUCCAUCACUAGAACACGUGGACCACAAAGUUGCUUGUAAACCCGAGGAAUUUUAACCGUAGGAUCACCUUUGAAGUUCACAAUAAAAUCUUCAAUGUUGCGGGCUUCCUGUAUUACAGGAAACAGAGUUUCGCUAGUAAUUAGAAAGGUCAAAAUAAAAAUGCAAUCAUAGUGGUUGUUCAAACUGCAAUUCAAGUCAUGAUGAUAAUGAAGCCGUAGGAAUAAAUAUAAUGCCAUCAAGGUUCAUUUUUUGUGCUAUAGCGCAGGUCUGAAAUGUACCAAAGUGUAAUCAAGCUCCUCCAAAAGCUUCUCACCAAAUUCAUCAACAAUCAGCUCAGCAUUGCACCCCAGUUUCUGUAGACUGAUGCCAUUCAAGAAUGAAGCAAGAGUACGGAAUAGAAAAAGAUCCCGGUAAAUUAUAGGUUCUAUCUCCGGCCUUUGGACCUGUAAGUAUUAAAAAAAUAAUAAUAAAAAUUUAGAUUGUUUUCGGGAUUUUUGCCACAGUAACCUUUUCAUCAUUUUUGCAACAUAAUAAUUGUGGAGCUGUUAAUGACCUAAGAAAAGGCCCUUAUGUAAACCUUAAUAGCAACUUCCUCUCCAGAGUCACGUAACGUAGCUCGGUAAACUUGACCUAAACUGGCAGCUGCUAUCGUCCGAGACGAAAUUUUACUGAAAACAGCUUCUAGGGGUUGACCCAAUUCCUCUUCUAUUAUAUUGAAGGCAACCUGAACCAAUGUCAUGCCAUAUUCUAUUUUAAGUUAUCUAAACUCCACAGGACAAAAUUGUCUCAUCCCAGAUACAAGCAACAAGAUUUUUUUUUUGGCUAAAAUGAGUUUUUACCUGAUUGGGGAAGGAAGGAACGUCAUCUUGAAGAAUGCACAGUUCAUUCAUAUAAUCUUCUCUGAUAAUAUCAGGUCUGUUUGCAAGAACCUUUCAAUACAUGGGUGAAAUCAGGCAUAUGUAUAUUUGAGCAAAUAUAAGAACCUAAAAUUCAAUGGCUGAGUACAACUAGAUUUCAAAUCACGUGGAGAGAAAUUUUCCACUUUGAUACUUCAUACUACAACUGAAGUAACAUGGUGACAAUUUCAUUCUAAUUUUUCUUAUAUCGAUCUGAAUUUCAGAAAGCUAUGUGAAUAGACCAUAAAAACCAUUGAAGUUAUUUAAGAACAAUCUUACAAUUAAACAAUAAAACAGUCAAAACUCUGAUUAUAAUCUCAAAAAAUAUUUAUCCCAAAUGCAUCGGAUCGACCACAAUGAAGGGUGCCUCCUAUUACAUCUAAUCUAACCUUUUAGAUAUUUACAUAUUUACUCCUUCAUUGCAUUCUUGAUCUUAAAUAUUAAAACCUGACUGGAAAAACUUACAGCUAAUGCAUCAUUUUUUUGUUGUUGCUAUUUUCAGCUAAUGCAGUGGAAGUAUACUGACAUGUUUCAACAAGGAAAAUAGGAUAUGACUGAUAUGAGGGAGGUGCAAACCUGGCCAGCUUUGAUGAAAGAAGGCCCCAAAUCACACAGGAGGUUUCUAAGCUGCCGAGCACGAAAUGGAACAACUUCUUCAUCCCUUCCGACGAAGCAGUCAUACGUCAAGGCAGACCAGUACAAUCCCAAACUCCACACAAUCUCCACGCCUCGCGAAAUUAGAGACACAAUUGCCCCUCUGGAUUCCAACACCUUAUUCCUCACCUAAUUAUAUACAACAGCAUCAACUAGAUGAUCAUCAAAUUCGCCCAGAAUUAAACACAAAUUCAAUUAGAAACAUAGCAAACUAAAUCAAUUACAAUUUCCAACCAGGACUGAAUCAUUUGCGUCCCGUCAUAUUCAACUUUCAUUAUCAACAACAUUAACAUACAACUUCACACCAAAAAUUAAAAGAAAUGAAUAAAAUAUAAUAUAAAUUCAAUGAACUAGAGUUGAAUUUAGUACAUUUUCGGGUGUGUACUUGCGGAACGGCACGCAAACGCCACGUUCGAAGUCGAGCUGCUCCAUGGCGGCGCUAGGCUUGUUCGAUGGCUCCAACCUGCUCUCACCGCCGCUCCCCAAGCUCCUCCGCUUUUCGAUUGCGGAUGACGCAACGUUCGAAACUCGGAAUUGCAACGGUCUCUUGCCUCUCCGUAUUCGAAGCCUGUACUUAAACGAAGUCGGAGCUUGGAACGGCGCAUUUAAUCUGUGGCUUGGAACAGCGUGAGCUCUCGAGCUUAGGUGCUUGGUAGGAGAUGGAGCUGUGCUUGUGCAAUUUACGCACAGGAAGUCCAUGGCUCCUGCUUUCUCAGUGGAAGUGAGAGAGAGAAAGAAGGUGGUGGGAGAAGGGAAAGGGGCGAAGAGGAAGUGAGCAAGUGAGCAACGACUUCAAAAAUUCGUUGGAAAAAACGGAUAUUAUAUUAUAUAUUUGUGUGAGCCAUGGCCAGCCACAUAAACGUUUUGGGAAGUAGUUUGGAUUAUUACUUCAAAACGUAAGGGAAAGUGGGAAUUGUGAAAGUGAUGGGCUGCAACGCAAAUAUUGUCUUUAGGAUCAUUUCUUUUAAUUAUAAAUAUCCUAUGUUAUAUUUUCCAGUAAUUACGAUAAGACUUUAAUACCUGAUUGUGGGUAAUUAUAAAUUGCUCGCUACAGCUCUCAGCCAGGAGUCAUAUCGGACAUAUUUAGGUGGUCAAAUCGGGUCCAUAUAUGCAGUCAUAUCGGACACAUUAGGUCAUUGGAAAAUAUUUUGGUCAUGUUUACUGAUGAUGGAGUUGCACAUGGGUUGGUUCGUUUCGCUUUAUUUAUGAACUAUUGUUUACUGAUUUGGGUUUUUUUAUGUGUAUGUAUACAUCAUCCUUUAAAAUGUUUCUGGUUUGAAUGUCGGUUCAAUAUUUCUAUUUAUCUGAUAUUUUGAAAGUAUAUAGAAAUAUUAGACCGAUAUCCAGACCAAAGACAUAACAAUCAAAGAAAAUUCAAAUAAGCAAAGUUCAACAAAAGCAUUUUAUGGGACAAUAUAAAACCUAAAAUGUAUACUUCAAGAACAGAUACAUACCCCACUCCACGAAAGCAUCGGAUCUUGCACACCGGUUGGAAAAUCUACUUGUCCCGACACCAAAAAUGAAAGCAAAAUAGUCUGACACUUGAGUUAAAAAUGGUUAAAUUAAGUUUUGAGCUCAUGCUAAUUCCACAAGAAGCUUGUCAAAACUUGGUCCUAAAGAUUAUGUUUCUCCUUUUCAGAAAAUAAGAAAAACCUCAUGAAUUGAAUGUGAAGCUUUGAUAUAACGAUCUUAAACUCUCCAGCAUAAGAACAAACAAAUUGGCAAGCAGGGCAUGAUCAGACACAGACAUGUCUUUUGCUUGGAAUGCAGGGUUGCUGCUCAUCUUGAUCACGUUUUCUCUGGCAAGAACUACGAGGUUUUCUAGCUGAUUCCAUUGGAAAACACCAUAUUUAAAUAGUACCUAAAAGCAGAAGCAGAUUAUUAUCAAAUCAACAUACUCAACUUUUCUUUUCUUUAUUCAUUUCUACACUUGUCGGUCUCUUUAUUAGUGUUGUUGCAAAUCAAUUAAUAACUGUUACGUUUGGUGCCACUUAACCCUAUAUUAGGAGAACAUUUUAUAAAAUAGCCAUUAUAUAAAAUUCAUUUUAGCAUCAUACAUUUUUAUUUGAAAAUUACUUGGCAUUAGGAGAAAGUAAGUUGAAGAGAGCUGUCAGGGAGAGAAAUGAGAUCAAAUAAAAAAAAUGUGAUGUUAAAAUUGAUUUUAUAUAACGAUAAUUUUAUAAAUUGUUCUCCUAAUAUGGGGUAACUGGCACCAUACGUAACAGUCAUGAAUUGAUUUGUAAAAAAACUAAUAAACAUAGUCACAUGUGAAGAAAUGAAUAAAGAAACGAAAAGCUGAGUAUGUUAGCUUUGAUGAAACAAGGCCCCAAAUCACACCGAAUUUUAUGAAUAUAAACUAUCAUCAGCUUGCACCCUCUGAUCUUUACAGGAGAUGAUAGGGACUCUUCCCUAUAAGUGCCAUGAUCAGGCUCUCAACUAGUAGAGGGGCAUCCACGUAAUAUGCAUGAUAAAAUAGUAUAGCAUAUAUGCAUGACACCAAAGAAUAAUAAAAGUGGUAACUUAACAAAUGCAUGAAUGUGUUCAAUCUCACAAAAAACCCAAGUAAAGUUCAAGCUCCAUGUCAUCCGUUAUAGUCGAUAUAUGAGAUGGAAUUUCUAAAUCAUAUACUUUUGUUUUUCAUUUUGGCAAAUUUAUCUUUGCGAAAAAGCUUCACGCCAUGAGAAAAUGGAACCCUCCAUCGAGCUGGUGUUUCAUUUAUUUUAUUAUGAGAGAUCAAGACAAACAUUAGCUACGUUUUUUAUGACUAAUAUGCCCCCAUUAACUAUGAUGAUUUUUUCAAUUUAGAAAAACACGAUGAUUGUUCAAAAGUAAUGCGGAUAAAAUUAAUUAAACACCAACGUCUUCAUGUGCAUUUGUCAACAUAUACAUAAAAAGAUGAGAAUAUAUGUGAUUUAAAGAGUUGUGAGCUCGGCAUAAGUGACAUAUAUAACCUUUUGUGUUCGUACUCUUAUGACACUUGUUUUUGUUAGAAAACUCCAUCCUAUUAUAACUUUGGGAAAAAUACAAAGAAAAAAGAUUUUGUUUAAAAAACAAUUCGAAUUUCCGAUUAAUUUAAAAAGAAAAGAAAAUGACAAAUUCGAUUUUACCCAUAAGAGUCGGUCAAAAAAUAGGGAAAUGAGCAAGAUGAAGAUUUAGCGGGAAAAUUAAAAGUCGAAACAAGAUUGGCGGGAAGAUCAUUUGCAUUCCCAAAUCCCAAAUAUAAAUAGCAUCAAAUCAUCUCAUGCCCUACUUUCCCUCUCUUUCCUUUCCCAGAUAAAUUUCUCUCUCCCACGGUUUCAGCGAUGUUCUCAAGCAGCCAAUUCGACUCCACCUCCGCCUUCUCCGGCGGCGGCUUCAUGGCUUCUCAGUCUACUCAGUUCGGUGAUUCCACUCCAUCUCCGGCCAAGGUAACGCAUCUCCUCCACUCUCUCAUAUGCCUCCCUUAGCCUCUCGAAUAACUGCAAAAUGAAAAGUAUAUUGCGUUUGUAUUUGUGAUAGUUAAAUGCGUUUCGAUCUGAGUCAGUGUUUGGUUGCUUGCCCUUCAAUUUCCUGGCAACCAAACAAGGGCUUUUAUUUCGAUAUUAUUUUUGUUUUAUUACUUGUUGAGGAAUUGUUGUUUUGACUGUUGUUGCAGAGUCGCGAGACUCACGGGUUGGUUCCUGUGACAGUGAAGCAGAUAAGCGAAUCCCAUCAAUCUGGUGAUGAAAAGUCAAAUUUUGUAAUCAGCGGGGCAGAUGUUGCUAAUGUACUAACUUUUUUUUUUUCGAAAAAUCAACAUAUUUAAGUUUUCUUUUCUUAAAAAGUUGUAAUUAAAAUUAUAUGUGGUUGGUUUAGGUAUCGGUGGUUGGCAUGGUAUUUGAUAAAUCUGAAAGGAACACUGAUGUUGGUUUCACUAUUGACGAUGGAACAGGGCGAAUCAAAUGCCGAAGAUGGUAAUGUUUGCAUUUUUUUAGUUAGAUACAGUUUAUGUCAUCACAUUUUUAACAGUUUGAAUAAUUUAUUUAGAUUAUAUUGUUUCAUGUAAUGCACAAUUUAUAGCAACAGAAGCUAAAAAUGUGUUUCAAUUAUACCUACUACUUUCUUGCACAAGAUAGAUAGAUUGAUCAGUAACGAUAUAAGUUCUGAGUCCACCCUGGUUUCUGAUAAUGAGUUACUCUAUUUUUUGUUCUCUUAAUAGGGUGAACGAGAAUUUUGACUCAAGAGAAAUGCAGGAAAUAGAGUAAGUUGCACUCUCUAUCAUCAGUGAGUUUUGUAUUGAAAUUUUAAGCCUUAUUGUUGACAUCAGAUAUAAAGAGCAACCAACUCAUUAUGAGGUUCUUAUGUAUUAUUUUCCAAUUGAUACAGAGAUGGAAUGUAUGUUCGUGUUAAUGGACACUUGAAAGUCUUUCAAGGUGUUCGACAAAUAGUUGCCUUCUCCGUGAGGUAUGGUAUAAAAGAUGUUCCUUUUAGUUUGAGAAAUUUAGAUGUCUUGAGAUUUUCGGUUGUUUUAAUGCCAUAUGAUUCACAUUUCUCGUUGUACCUAGCCACUUAGCUUUACCAAUGCAUCAUAUAACUAAUUCCAAUAUGUCACUUGAGGUGGGAUGAUGCAACUAAAACAGGUGCCACGUUAUAUUCACUCAUAAUCAACACACAGGUGCACAGUGCACGCACACACAAACACUUUACUUUUCAAUAUGGUUGAAACAACACAUUGAAAUUUGUGUCAAUCUUAAUGUAGAUGUCUUACUAUCGGGAAUAGUUGAUUGGGAGAAUGUUUUCAAUCGCACAAUAUUGUAUUGUUAAAGAAGUCAGAUUUCAGACAACUCUUGUAAAAUAUUGUUGAGUUUUACUUUAGUUUUGGAUCUUUGUUCUUUUAAUGUUUUGCUGUUACUGUGAUGUAGCUCUAAAGAAUUAUUAUUGACAGAAUUUUGGGUUGUGUUGCAGGCCUGUGAAAAACUUUGAUGAAGUUACCUUUCACUUCAUUGAAUGCAUACAUACCCACUUACAGACAUCAAAGUUACAGGUAUCAAUAAUAACUUGAAUCGAUGAAACAAUUACCUUCUUUUACACCUUCAUUCACUUGAAGGUGAAUUUGGAUAGAAUGCGUAUCUUAUGUCUUUUAUAUUUGUUCAUGGUGUAUUUACAUUCAUUAAAGCUGCAAGGAAAUUCUGCAACUCAACCUCAGUCUGUGGACUCAUCUCUUAGCACUCCUGUGCGGAGUGGGUCAAGUGGAUACCAGACAGCCCCAUCAAACCAAGUAAGCUAUCUAACUUUGAAAAAUUUACAUUUCAAGCUGUCCUGUUCAUGUUUAGCAUGCAAUUAAUGUUGAAUUUUGCAGUUCUCUGGGCAAGUUAGCGUUGAUGGGAUAAAGGGCUGUGAUCAGUUGGUCCUUGACUAUCUGCAGCAGCCUUCAAGCAUGUGAGUUAUCAUGAACUUAUUUCCCCUGUUUUGGUUUUUGUUAGUUUGCCUUGUUUUGUGUAAGAUAUGUUGGCAUCGGCUGCCUAUAUUGAACUCUUGUGACUGGUUUGCUAUUGCAGUGGAAAAGAGAAGGGGAUACACAGAGAUGAACUUUCCCAGCACCUGAAAGUCCCUGUGGAAAAGAUAUUGUAUUCUCUCUCUCUCUCUCUCUCUCUCUCUCACCACAUCCAAUUAUGCAUGCAGGAGUGACUUCUUUUGAUUCUUAUUCUUGUUUCAGGGAAGCAAUCAGGUCUCUUGAAGAGGAAGGCUUAAUAUAUUCCACGAUUGAUGAGUUUCACUACAAGUCAGCAGCAUAUGGCUAAGUAUUCGUCACGAAUUUUGACUUUGUGCUGCUACGGUUGGAAAGGAAAGUAACUUAUAUGAAUGCUGUUAUGUAUAUUUCUCUUUUAAUAUCUUUUUGUCCAUUUUUAUGUCACACAAUUACAUUUGUUUUGUUUAAUCAAAAGCGCUACUCUUCCAGCCAAAAAAUAUUCUGGAUUGAACAUCCAGUAUCAAAUACUAAAUAGUCACAGUAGUUAAAUGUCAUUUAACUAAUUUGUUGUGUUUAUUUAAAAACUAAAUUGUUAAAAUUAAGAGGAAAGAUAACACUGCCUGCCUAGCCAUUUAAUUCGAAGAUCCGAGGUUGAUAAAGGUUAUGUCUGUAUUAUUUGUCACUCUAAUUUUUAUUCUUAGGGUAAAUUACUCAAAUGGUUCUCAAAUUGUAUUCAAUUUACAUUUUGGUUCUUAAAUUAAAUUAUUCGUUCAAAUGGUUCACCAAUUCUUUAUUAAUCGGCUCUUUGGUCAUACGGUUACAUUUUUUGUUAAAUUUAGUCAUGUGAGCAGCACAUGAUACAUUUGUGGGGGCAAAUAAGACUUUUGACCUAUUUAUCACCCCUUUAUCAUCACUUGAUCAUUUAUGUAUCACCAUUUUAUCGCAUAUUUAGGAACAUAGGAUGGUUAUGGACGGUUUUACCCUUACAUUUGAUGGUAACAUUAACAUAAUGUAAUGGUAGGAUCAAUGGAGCGAUUAAUAUAGAGUUGAUGGAUCAUUUAAACGAAUAAUUUAAUUAAAAGACCAAAAUGUAAAUUGGGUAUAAAUUUAAAGACCAUUUGAGUAAUUUACCCUUAUUCUUAUAAUUUCUAGAGUAUCAACAUCAACUUAGAAUUUGAAUUAAUGUGAAGCAAAAAAGGAAUUAAAGAGUUCAAGAACAAGUGACAUGUAAAGGCAGGAGACCAAGAAAAUCUAGCGCCCCCCUUUUCUUCUUAGCGUUGCACGGCUCCAUUUGGGGAGGAGGAGGUCUGUCCCUCCCACCACCCACCCACCCCCCAAACACCCACCUGCACCUUGUCUCUUUCGUUUGAGGUCUGUCCCUCCCACCACCCACAUGCACCUUGUCUCUUUCGUUUCUGCUAGUUUUCAACCUCUCUUGCUUUGGAUUCUUUUGUGGGGCUGGUCUUAUUUUGUGUUUGAGCCUGUUUGGUUGUGUUGGUGGCUGUCUUUGAGAGUUGGUAGUUGUCUAUGAGAAUUGGUUGCUUUUCCUGGUGACUGCUUGGGCCUUGUGUUCUGGGCUGAGAUUGUGUGUCUCAAGCCGAUUUUGUGUCCUCCUUUCUUCGCCAAUCAACCCUUUCAUUCAGAUUUACUUCUCCCACAACAUCCCCUCCUACUCUUGCCUUCUCCUUUUUCCAGAUCUGGUUUCUCCAUCAGGAUAUAGGAACUACUUCUCUAAGCGCUUUGUCGCGUCGUUAUCGGAUUGUAUAUAGAGCUCUUGCUAAGGUUCUAGCUCUGGUGCUUGCACCAAUACUCUCCACUCCCUUGAUUUCGAUCCUUUGGUAUAUACCAUGCUUGUGUUGUGAUUGGUUGCCACUUUCUUCUUGGUGCACAAGCGGACUCGAGUGUAAAGCAGAAAGUGACUCUUGGGGGAAUGUUCUUGUGCUGAUGUGUUUCUGUUUUUUGGGGAAAUUUUGUUCUUGGCGUAAGAUCGGUGGGUCUCUAUGCACAGCUAUGUUGACUUGUAUGGAGGGUGUGAAUCCCCUCCUUUGUGGCCAUAUUGGUGAGGUAGGUGCGGUCUCCAGUCCUUUUGUGGCGACAGUGGCUCGGUUUUGAAUUUUGUUUUGAAUUUGUAUGGGGAAGAAAAGGCUAAAAACACCAAGUUCUAUUUAAUUAUGAUGAUUUUUUAAUUUUUGUAUAAUUACGACAAGCUUUAAACAGUUUAUAAAAUAUGGAAUAAAUCAUAUAUUACAAUGUCGUUUUUUAAAAUAAGAUUUUUCAAAAGCACCUAAGAAAAUGUACUUAUUAUUUUUACGCCAUCACAGAACAUAAACAGUACUAGUCUCUCCAAUCACAAGUCUUUUGCCUCCACACGUAUCUCGAGUCACGACUAAUUGUUAGAAAUUAAAGAGAAUUAGAAAUCUGUCAUAUCCAUAAAAAGUGAUUAGGGAAGUGAAUGAACACAAUCAUUUAUUUUUUGAAGUCCGUUUAAAGCAACCAAACUGACCAACAAAAGAAUAACGAAGAAAAGUCUUCUCUGUUUGGUUGAUGAGAAAAGUAAUGGUUCAUGCAACUAAUAAAUCUUCAUUGUCUUUCGGAAGAACCAUUGAACAAAUCAAAUUUUUCUGCUUCUCUAGAUUUUGUUACUUGUCUACAUGAAGAUAUCUAGCAAAUAACUUCUUUUGUUUCGCCUUCAUCUACCAAAUAACAUGUUGAAUGUGGUGGUGAUCAAUAGUCAUAAGGCUUCGAGUACGUACCAGGGACUUGGCUAGACCUACUGUCGCCAACACAAAUAGAAGUGAAAGAUGUCGCGUUUAUAUAUGUUUCACUCUACGAUGGGAGCCAAGAAUAAUAAAUUUGCCGAAUACUUUGUCAUCUUUUUUCUUCGUAGGAUUUUAUUACGAAAUAAAAAUAAAAAUUAAUGGGUUUCUUAAGGUUACAUGUUCAUGGUUUCGAAUCAGAAUUUUAUGUGUGUGGAUACCUCUCACAAAAUAUCUAUAUAAAAAAUUUCAACUCAUAAUACAUCCAAAAAUUAACUAGGAGGACGAAAAUUAUAUAUAUAUAUAUAUAUCACAUAAUUGUUGCACCUCCUACGACUUGCUUAAUUUAUUUCCCAUCUCUCUUGAGGACUUAUUUCUCGGUUGUUGUUGAAAGUUUGAAUGAAAUUCAAUGACUUUUGUCCCACAUUGGUAUAAAGAAGAAAAAGUGAGGUCUUUAUAAGUGUGGUAGCCCUACAAAAGGUAAUUGGAAGUUGAGCCAAGUAGAAGCCAAUUGGGCUUCAAAUUCAACUUGGGCAUUGAAUAUUUAAUAUUUAAUUAUCAAAAAGAUGGCCUUGGGCCUUGGGGCACUUGGGUAUUUAGUUUCAAAUUAAUAAUUUUUUUUAAUAAUUAAUUCAUACUAGUUUAAUUAAUUUGACUGGGGGACUAUUUUAAUUUUUAAUAAUAAAUAGUAUAAUAUAUUGCCGUUGAUAAUGGUGUUAUACAAAUACAUACGUAUUUUUCAAUAAAUAGUAUAGACGAGCGGCUAUAAUCUUUUAGAUAUGUAUUCACACACACACACACACACACACACAUAUGUAGGUACGUAUUUUUCAACAAUACAUUCGUGUUCUAUACACGUCUCACGUUUUCUUUAAAAAGCAAACAUACAAUAGUCGUAUUGUACAUGUACGUACGUAUUACUAAUGUUUUAUACACGUAUUUUUUUUAAAAUUUUCAGUAACACACACAAAUUCACGUAUUAUACAAAUAAUUCUCACAUAUUAUUGAAUAAGAAUAACACCUGGUACAAAAAUUAUAUUAAAAUAUCAAAUAGUGGAACAUUAAUACCUACUUUGGAUAUGUUGCAAAUUAAUAUCCAUAAGGUACAAACCAAUGCAACUAGGAGGGUCUUUAUUUUUUUUGUUUUUAGGGGAAGACUAAGAGUACAGCCGCCCGGCUAUACUCCAUGUUUUCAAAUUUUUUAAAAAAGAUAUGUGUUGACACGAGGGUCCAAAUGGCAGGAGUCUUUUUUACAUUUUAAAAACGUAUAGCCGCAAGGCUAUACUCAGUUUUGAAAUAUUUUUUACAAAGGCAUGUGCUGACACGUGGGGCAUAAUGGUUGGGGACUUUUUUUAUAUUUAAAAGUAGUAUAGCCGAACGGCUAUACUCAGUUUUGAAAUUUUUUUUAAAAAAGACACGUGUUGACACGUGUCGCCUAUUGGAUGGGAGAACUUUUUUUACAUUUAAGAAGUAUAGCCGGCCGGCUGUACUCAGUUUUGAAAAUUUUAUUUUUUUUAUAUUUAAAAAUAGUAUAGCCGCCCGGCUAUACUCAGUUUUGAAAUGUUUUUUAAAAAGACAUGUGUUGACACGUGGCUCCUAUUGGUUGGGGGAACUUUUUCUACAUUUAAAGCAGUACAGCCGGCCGGCUGUACUCAGUUUUGAAAAUUUUAUUUUUUUUUAUAUUUAAAAAUAGUACAGCCGCGCGGCUAUACUCAGUUUUGAAAUUUUUUUCAAAAGACAUGUGUCGACACGUGGCGCCUAUUGGUUGGGAGAAAUUUUUAUAUACGGAAAACACGUAUAGCCGCCCGGCUAUACUCGGUUUUGAAAUUUUUAUUUUUUUUAUAUUCAAAAAUAGUAUAGCCGCGCGGCUAGACUCAGUUUUGAUUUUUUUUCAAAAAGACAUGUGUUGACACGUGGCGCCUAUUGGUUGGGGGCCCUUUUUUUAUAUUUAAAAAUAGUACAGCCGCGCGGCUACACUCAGUUUAGCAAUUUUUUUUUUUUAAAUUUUAAAAAAGUACAUGUGUUGACAUGUGGCUCCUAUUUGUUGGGGGACUUUUUUUAUAUUAAAAAAUAGUAUAGCCAACCGGCUAUACUUACUUUUUUUUAUUUAAAAAAAAAUAGAAGCCAAUUGGGCUUCAAAUUCAACUUGGGCAUUGAAUAUUUAAUAUUUAAUUAUCAAAAAGAUGGCCUUGGGCCUUGGGGCACUUGGGUAUUUAGUUUCAAAUUAAUAAUUUUUUUUAAUUAAUAAUUAAUUCAUACUAGUUUAAUUAAUUUGACUGGGGGACUAUUUUAAUUUUUAAUAAUAAAUAGUAUAAUAUAUUGCCGUUGAUAAUGGUGUUAUACAAAUACAUACGUAUUUUUCAAUAAAUAGUAUAGACGAGCGGCUAUAAUCUUUUAGAUAUGUAUUCACACACACACACACAUAUGUAGGUACGUAUUUUUCAACAAUACAUUCGUGUUCUAUACACGUCUCACGUUUUCUUUAAAAAGCAAACAUACAAUAGUCGUAUUGUACAUGUACGUACGUAUUACUAAUGUUUUAUACACGUAUUUUUUUUAAAAUUUUCAGUAACACACACAAAUUCACGUAUUAUACAAAUAAUUCUCACAUAUUAUUGAAUAAGAAUAACACCUGGUACAAAAAUUAUAUUAAAAUAUCAAAUAGUGGAACAUUAAUACCUACUUUGGAUAUGUUGCAAAUUAAUAUCCAUAAGGUACAAACCAAUGCAACUAGGAGGGUCUUUAUUUUUUUUGUUUUUAGGGGAAGACUAAGAGUACAGCCGCCCGGCUAUACUCCAUGUUUUCAAAUUUUUUAAAAAAGAUAUGUGUUGACACGAGGGUCCAAAUGGCAGGAGUCUUUUUUACAUUUUAAAAACGUAUAGCCGCAAGGCUAUACUCAGUUUUGAAAUAUUUUUUACAAAGGCAUGUGCUGACACGUGGGGCAUAAUGGUUGGGGACUUUUUUUAUAUUUAAAAGUAGUAUAGCCGAACGGCUAUACUCAGUUUUGAAAUUUUUUUUAAAAAAGACACGUGUUGACACGUGUCGCCUAUUGGAUGGGAGAACUUUUUUUACAUUUAGGAAGUAUAGCCGGCCGGCUGUACUCAGUUUUGAAAAUUUUAUUUUUUUUAUAUUUAAAAAUAGUAUAGCCGCGCGGCUAUACUCAGUUUUGAAAUGUUUUUUAAAAAGACAUGUGUUGACACGUGGCUCCUAUUGGUUGGGGGAACUUUUUCUACAUUUAAAGCAGUACAGCCGGCCGGCUGUACUCAGUUUUGAAAAUUUUAUUUUAUUUUAUAUUUAAAAAUAGUACAGCCGCGCGGCUAUACUCAGUUUUGAAAUUUUUUUCAAAAGACAUGUGUCGACACGUGGCGCCUAUUGGUUGGGAGAAAUUUUUAUAUACGGAAAACACGUAUAGCCGCCCGGCUAUACUCGGUUUUGAAAUUUUUAUUUUUUUUAUAUUCAAAAAUAGUAUAGCCGCGCGGCUAGACUCAGUUUUGAUUUUUUUUCAAAAAGACAUGUGUUGACACGUGGCGCCUAUUGGUUGGGGGCCCUUUUUUUAUAUUUAAAAAUAGUACAGCCGCGCGGCUACACUCAGUUUAGCAAUUUUUUUUUUUUUAAAUUUUAAAAAAGUACAUGUGUUGACAUGUGGCUCCUAUUUGUUGGGGGACUUUUUUUAUAUUAAAAAAUAGUAUAGCCAACCGGCUAUACUUACUUUUUUUUAUUUAAAAAAAAAUAGAAGCCAAUUGGGCUUCAAAUUCAACUUGGGCAUUGAAUAUUUAAUAUUUAAUUAUCAAAAAGAUGGCCUUGGGCCUUGGGGCACUUGGGUAUUUAGUUUCAAAUUAAUAAUUUUUUUUAAUAAUUAAUUCAUACUAGUUUAAUUAAUUUGACUGGGGGACUAUUUUAAUUUUUAAUAAUAAAUAGUAUAAUAUAUUGCCGUUGAUAAUGGUGUUAUACAAAUACAUACGUAUUUUUCAAUAAAUAGUAUAGACGAGCGGCUAUAAUCUUUUAGAUAUGUAUUCACACACACACACACACACACACACACAUAUGUAGGUACGUAUUUUUCAACAAUACAUUCGUGUUCUAUACACGUCUCACGUUUUCUUUAAAAAGCAAACAUACAAUAGUCGUAUUGUACAUGUACGUACGUAUUACUAAUGUUUUAUACACGUAUUUUUUUUAAAAUUUUCAGUAACACACACAAAUUCACGUAUUAUACAAAUAAUUCUCACAUAUUAUUGAAUAAGAAUAACACCUGGUACAAAAAUUAUAUUAAAAUAUCAAAUAGUGGAACAUUAAUACCUACUUUGGAUAUGUUGCAAAUUAAUAUCCAUAAGGUACAAACCAAUGCAACUAGGAGGGUCUUUAUUUUUUUUGUUUUUAGGGGAAGACUAAGAGUACAGCCGCCCGGCUAUACUCCAUGUUUUCAAAUUUUUUAAAAAAGAUAUGUGUUGACACGAGGGUCCAAAUGGCAGGAGUCUUUUUUACAUUUUAAAAACGUAUAGCCGCAAGGCUAUACUCAGUUUUGAAAUAUUUUUUACAAAGGCAUGUGCUGACACGUGGGGCAUAAUGGUUGGGGACUUUUUUUAUAUUUAAAAGUAGUAUAGCCGAACGGCUAUACUCAGUUUUGAAAUUUUUUUUAAAAAAGACACGUGUUGACACGUGUCGCCUAUUGGAUGGGAGAACUUUUUUUACAUUUAAGAAGUAUAGCCGGCCGGCUGUACUCAGUUUUGAAAAUUUUAUUUUUUUUAUAUUUAAAAAUAGUAUAGCCGCGCGGCUAUACUCAGUUUUGAAAUGUUUUUUAAAAAGACAUGUGUUGACACGUGGCUCCUAUUGGUUGGGGGAACUUUUUCUACAUUUAAAGCAGUACAGCCGGCCGGCUGUACUCAGUUUUGAAAAUUUUAUUUUUUUUAUAUUUAAAAAUAGUAUAGCCGCGCCGCUAUACUCAGUUUUGAAAUUUUUUUCAAAAGACAUGUGUCGACACGUGGCGCCUACUGGUUGGGAGAAAUUUUUAUAUACGGAAAACACGUAUAGCCGCCCGGCUAUACUCGGUUUUGAAAUUUUUAUUUUUUUUAUGUUUAAAAAUAGUAUAGCCGGGCGGCUAUACGCUGUUUUGAAUUUUUUUCAAAAAGACAUGUAUUGACACGUGGCGCCUAUUGUUUGGGGGCCCUUUUUUUUAUAUUUAAAAAUAGUACAGCCGCGCGGCUACACUCAGUUUAGCAAUUUUUUUUUUUUUAAUUUUAAAAAAGUACAUGUGUUGACAUGUGGCUCCUAUUUGUUGGGGGACUUUUUUUAUAUUAAAAAAUAGUAUAGCCAACCGGCUAUACUUACUUUUUUUAUUUAAAAAAAAAUAGAAGCCAAUUGGGCUUCAAAUUCAACUUGGGCAUUGAAUAUUUAAUAUUUAAUUAUCAAAAAGAUGGCCUUGGGCCUUGGGGCACUUGGGUAUUUAGUUUCAAAUUAAUAAUUUUUUUUAAUAAUUAAUUCAUACUAGUUUAAUUAAUUUGACUGGGGGACUAUUUUAAUUUUUAAUAAUAAAUAGUAUAAUAUAUUGCCGUUAAUAAUGGUGUUAUACAAAUACAUACGUAUUUUUCAAUAAAUAGUAUAGACGAGCGGCUAUAAUCUUUUAGAUAUGUAUUCACACACACACACACACACACAUAUGUAGGGUACGUAUUUUUCACAAUACAUUCGUGUUCUAUACACGUCUCACGUUUUCUUUAAAAAGCAAACAUACAAUAGUCGUAUUGUACAUGUACGUACGUAUUACUAAUGUUUUAUACACGUAUUUUUUUUAAAAUUUUCAGUAACACACACAAAUUCACGUAUUAUACAAAUAAUUCUCACAUAUUAUUGAAUAAGAAUAACACCUGGUACAAAAAUUAUAUUAAAAUAUCAAAUAGUGGAACAUUAAUACCUACUUUGGAUAUGUUGCAAAUUAAUAUCCAUAAGGUACAAACCAAUGCAACUAGGAGGGUCUUUAUUUUUUUUGUUUUUAGGGGAAGACUAAGAGUACAGCCGCCCGGCUAUACUCCAUGUUUUCAAAUUUUUUAAAAAAGAUAUGUGUUGACACGAGGGUCCAAAUGGCAGGAGUCUUUUUUACAUUUUAAAAACGUAUAGCCGCAAGGCUAUACUCAGUUUUGAAAUAUUUUUUACAAAGGCAUGUGCUGACACGUGGGGCAUAAUGGUUGGGGACUUUUUUUAUAUUUAAAAGUAGUAUAGCCGAACGGCUAUACUCAGUUUUGAAAUUUUUUUUAAAAAAGACACGUGUUGACACGUGUCGCCUAUUGGAUGGGAGAACUUUUUUUACAUUUAAGAAGUAUAGCCGGCCGGCUGUACUCAGUUUUGAAAAUUUUAUUUUUUUUAUAUUUAAAAAUAGUAUAGCCGCGCGGCUAUACUCAGUUUUGAAAUGUUUUUUAAAAAGACAUGUGUUGACACGUGGCUCCUAUUGGUUGGGGGAACUUUUUCUACAUUUAAAGCAGUACAGCCGGCCGGCUGUACUCAGUUUUGAAAAUUUUAUUUUUUUUUAUAUUUAAAAAUAGUACAGCCGCGCGGCUAUACUCAGUUUUGAAAUUUUUUUCAAAAGACAUGUGUCGACACGUGGCGCCUAUUGGUUGGGAGAAAUUUUUAUAUACGGAAAACACGUAUAGCCGCCCGGCUAUACUCGGUUUUGAAAUUUUUAUUUUUUUUAUAUUCAAAAAUAGUAUAGCCGCGCGGCUAGACUCAGUUUUGAUUUUUUUUCAAAAAGACAUGUGUUGACACGUGGCGCCUAUUGGUUGGGGGCCCUUUUUUUAUAUUUAAAAAUAGUACAGCCGCGCGGCUACACUCAGUUUAGCAAUUUUUUUUUUUUAAAUUUUAAAAAAGUACAUGUGUUGACAUGUGGCUCCUAUUUGUUGGGGGACUUUUUUUAUAUUAAAAAAUAGUAUAGCCAACCGGCUAUACUUACUUUUUUUUAUUUAAAAAAAAAUAGAAGCCAAUUGGGCUUCAAAUUCAACUUGGGCAUUGAAUAUUUAAUAUUUAAUUAUCAAAAAGAUGGCCUUGGGCCUUGGGGCACUUGGGUAUUUAGUUUCAAAUUAAUAAUUUUUUUUAAUAAUUAAUUCAUACUAGUUUAAUUAAUUUGACUGGGGGACUAUUUUAAUUUUUAAUAAUAAAUAGUAUAAUAUAUUGCCGUUGAUAAUGGUGUUAUACAAAUACAUACGUAUUUUUCAAUAAAUAGUAUAGACGAGCGGCUAUAAUCUUUUAGAUAUGUAUUCACACACACACACACACACACAUAUGUAGGUACGUAUUUUUCAACAAUACAUUCGUGUUCUAUACACGUCUCACGUUUUCUUUAAAAAGCAAACAUACAAUAGUCGUAUUGUACAUGUACGUACGUAUUACUAAUGUUUUAUACACGUAUUUUUUUUAAAAUUUUCAGUAACACACACAAAUUCACGUAUUAUACAAAUAAUUCUCACAUAUUAUUGAAUAAGAAUAACACCUGGUACAAAAAUUAUAUUAAAAUAUCAAAUAGUGGAACAUUAAUACCUACUUUGGAUAUGUUGCAAAUUAAUAUCCAUAAGGUACAAACCAAUGCAACUAGGAGGGUCUUUAUUUUUUUUGUUUUUAGGGGAAGACUAAGAGUACAGCCGCCCGGCUAUACUCCAUGUUUUCAAAUUUUUUAAAAAAGAUAUGUGUUGACACGAGGGUCCAAAUGGCAGGAGUCUUUUUUACAUUUUAAAAACGUAUAGCCGCAAGGCUAUACUCAGUUUUGAAAUAUUUUUUACAAAGGCAUGUGCUGACACGUGGGGCAUAAUGGUUGGGGACUUUUUUUAUAUUUAAAAGUAGUAUAGCCGAACGGCUAUACUCAGUUUUGAAAUUUUUUUUAAAAAAGACACGUGUUGACACGUGGCGCCUAUUGGAUGGGAGAACUUUUUUUACAUUUAAGAAGUAUAGCCGGCCGGCUGUACUCAGUUUUGAAAAUUUUAUUUUUUUAUAUUUAAAAAUAGUAUAGCCGCGCGGCUAUACUCAGUUUUGAAAUGUUUUUUAAAAAGACAUGUGUUGACACGUGGCUCCUAUUGGUUGGGGGAACUUUUUCUACAUUUAAAGCAGUACAGCCGGCCGGCUGUACUCAGUUUUGAAAAUUUUAUUUUAUUUUAUAUUUAAAAAUAGUACAGCCGCGCGGCUAUACUCAGUUUUGAAAUUUUUUUCAAAAGACAUGUGUCGACACGUGGCGCCUAUUGGUUGGGAGAAAUUUUUAUAUACGGAAAACACGUAUAGCCGCCCGGCUAUACUCGGUUUUGAAAUUUUUAUUUUUUUUAUAUUCAAAAAUAGUAUAGCCGCGCGGCUAGACUCAGUUUUGAUUUUUUUUCAAAAAGACAUGUGUUGACACGUGGCGCCUAUUGGUUGGGGGCCCUUUUUUUAUAUUUAAAAAUAGUACAGCCGCGCGGCUACACUCAGUUUAGCAAUUUUUUUUUUUUUAAAUUUUAAAAAAGUACAUGUGUUGACAUGUGGCUCCUAUUUGUUGGGGGACUUUUUUUAUAUUAAAAAAUAGUAUAGCCAACCGGCUAUACUUACUUUUUUUUAUUUAAAAAAAAAUAGAAGCCAAUUGGGCUUCAAAUUCAACUUGGGCAUUGAAUAUUUAAUAUUUAAUUAUCAAAAAGAUGGCCUUGGGCCUUGGGGCACUUGGGUAUUUAGUUUCAAAUUAAUAAUUUUUUUUAAUAAUUAAUUCAUACUAGUUUAAUUAAUUUGACUGGGGGACUAUUUUAAUUUUUAAUAAUAAAUAGUAUAAUAUAUUGCCGUUGAUAAUGGUGUUAUACAAAUACAUACGUAUUUUUCAAUAAAUAGUAUAGACGAGCGGCUAUAAUCUUUUAGAUAUGUAUUCACACACACACACACACACACACAUAUGUAGGUACGUAUUUUUCAACAAUACAUUCGUGUUCUAUACACGUCUCACGUUUUCUUUAAAAAGCAAACAUACAAUAGUCGUAUUGUACAUGUACGUACGUAUUACUAAUGUUUUAUACACGUAUUUUUUUUAAAAUUUUCAGUAACACACACAAAUUCACGUAUUAUACAAAUAAUUCUCACAUAUUAUUGAAUAAGAAUAACACCUGGUACAAAAAUUAUAUUAAAAUAUCAAAUAGUGGAACAUUAAUACCUACUUUGGAUAUGUUGCAAAUUAAUAUCCAUAAGGUACAAACCAAUGCAACUAGGAGGGUCUUUAUUUUUUUUGUUUUUAGGGGAAGACUAAGAGUACAGCCGCCCGGCUAUACUCCAUGUUUUCAAAUUUUUUAAAAAAGAUAUGUGUUGACACGAGGGUCCAAAUGGCAGGAGUCUUUUUUACAUUUUAAAAACGUAUAGCCGCAAGGCUAUACUCAGUUUUGAAAUAUUUUUUACAAAGGCAUGUGCUGACACGUGGGGCAUAAUGGUUGGGGACUUUUUUUAUAUUUAAAAGUAGUAUAGCCGAACGGCUAUACUCAGUUUUGAAAUUUUUUUUAAAAAAGACACGUGUUGACACGUGGCGCCUAUUGGUUGGGAGAACUUUUUUUACAUUUAAGAAGUAUAGCCGGCCGGCUGUACUCAGUUUUGAAAAUUUUAUUUUUUUAUAUUUAAAAAUAGUAUAGCCGCGCGGCUAUACUCAGUUUUGAAAUGUUUUUUUAAAAAGACAUGUGUUGACACGUGGCUCCUAUUGGUUGGGGGAACUUUUUCUACAUUUAAAGCAGUACAGCCGGCCGGCUGUACUCAGUUUUGAAAAUUUUAUUUUUUUUAUAUUUAAAAAUAGUAUAGCCGAGCGGCUAUACUCAGUUUUGAAAAUUUUUUCAAAAGACAUGUGUCGACACGUGGCGCCUAUUGGUUGGGAGAAAUUUUUAUAUACGGAAAACAAGUAUAGCCGCCCGGCUAUACUCAGUUUUGAAAUUUUUAUUUUUUAUAUUUAAAAAUAGUAUAGCCGCCCGGCUAUACGCAGUUUUGAAUUUUUUUGGAAAGACAUGUGUUGACACGUGGCGCCUAUUGGUUAGGGGCCCCUUUUUUUAUAUUUAAAAAUAGUACAGCCGCGCGGCUAUACUCAGUUAAAAGAAAAAGUACAUGUGUUGACAUGUGGCUCCUAUUUGUUGGGGGACCUUUUUUUAUAUUUAAAAAUAGUAUAGCCGCCCGGCUAUACUUACUUUUUUUAUUUAAAAAAAAUAGAAGCCAAUUGGGCUUCAAAUUCUAUUUGGGCAUUGAAUAUUUAAUAUUUAAUUAUCAAAAAGAUGGCCUUGGGCCUUGGGGCACUUGGGCAUUUUGAUUUAAAUUAAUUAUUUAGUUUCAAAUUAAUAAUUUUUUUAAUAAUUAAUUCAUACUAGUUUAAUUAAUUUGACUGGGGGACUAUUUUAAUUUUUAAUAAUAAAUAGUAUAAUAUAUUGCCGUUAAUAAUGGUAUUAUACAAAUACAUACGUAUUUUUCAAUAAAUAGUGUAGACGAGCGGCUAUAAUCUUUUAGAUAUGUAUUCAUAUAUAUAUAUACACACACACACACACACACACACACACACACACAUAUGUAGGUACGUAUUUUUCAACAAUACAUUCGUGUUCUAUACACGUCUCACGUUUUCUUUAAAAAGCAAACAUACAAUAGUCGUAUUGUACAUGUACGUACGUAUUACUAAUGUUUUAUACACGUAUUUUUUUUUAAAAUUUUCAGUAACACACACAAAUUCACGUAUUAUACAAAUAAUUCUGACAUAUUAUUGAAUAAGAAUAACACCUGGUACAAAAAUUAUAUUAAAAUAUCAAAUAGUGGAACAUUAAUACCUACUUUGGAUAUGUUGCAAAUUAAUAUCCAUAAGGUACAAACCAAUGCAACUAGGAGGGUCUUUUUUUUUAAUUUUAGGGGAAGAAAAAGAGUAUUUAUUAUACUAUUUAUUAUUAAAAUUUAAAAUUAAAAUAGUCCCCAAGUGCCCCAAGGCCCAAGGGCAUCUUUUUGACUAGGGGGCUAUUUUAAUUUUAAAUUUUAAUAAUAAAUAGUAUAAUAUAUUGCCGUUAAUAAUCGUGUUAUACAAAUACAUACGUAUUUUUUCAAUAAAUAGUAUAGACGAGCGGCUAUAGUUUUUUAGAUAUGUAUUGAUAUAUAUAUACACACACACAUAUGUUUGUACGUAUUUUUCAACAACACAUUCGUGUUCUAUACACGUGUCACGUUUUCUUUAAGAAGCAAACAUACAGUAGUCGUAUUGUACAUGUACGUACGUAUUACUAAUGUUUUAUACGCGUGUUGUUUUUAAAAAAUAUCAGUAACAGACACAAAUUCACGUAUUAUACAAAUAAGUCUCACAUAUUAUUGAAUAAGAAUAACACAUGGUACAAAAAUUAUAUUAAAAUAUCAAAUAGUGGAACGUUAAUAUCUACUUUGGAUAUGUUGCAAAUUAAUAUCCAUAAGUUACAAACCAAUGCAACUAGGAGGGUCUUUUUUUUGGUUUUUAGGGGAAGAAAAAGAGUACAGCCGGACGGCUAUACUCCAUGUUUUCAAUUUUUUUUAAAAAGAUAUGUGUUGACACGAGGGUCCAAAUGGCAGGAGUCUGUUUUAUAUUAAAAAAUAUUAUAUCCGCACAGCUAUACUCAGUUUUGAAAUAUUUUUUACAAAGUCAUGUGUUGACACGUGGGGCAUAAUGGUUGGGGUCUUUUUUUAUAUUUAAAAAUAGUAUAGCCGAACGGCUAUACUCAGUUUUGAAAUUUUUUUAAAAAAAGACAUGCGUUGACACGUGGCGCCUAUUGGUUGGGGGAACUUUUUUACAUUUAAAAAAAGUAUAGCCGCCCGGCUGUACUCAGUUUUGAAAAUUUUUUUUAUAUUUAAAAAUAGUAUAGCCGCGCGGCUAUACUCAGUUUUGAAAAUUUUUUUUAAACGACAUGUGUUGACACGUGGACCUAGGCGCCGGGCAAGUCCUUUUUUAUAUAUAAAUAGUCUAGCCACGCUGCUAUACAUUUUAAAAAGAAAAUGUAAUCCAAAAAAUUUCGCCGCCGUUGACCUGUGCCGACGAACAUUCAUCUGGGUAAGUUUUUAUUUAUUUAUUAUUAUUUAGUUUUAAAAAUAUAAAAUUAGUUUCUUUACUUUUGUAUUUUGUCUCACUUAUUUAUUCAUAUACGUAAGUAAGUAAUAUCUUAGCCUUUUUGAAUUACUUUAAUUAGUAAUUAUUUUGAAUUAUUAUUUAAUAUAUAAAAAUUAAAGAAAAAGUCCACAAAAUAAUUAAUUUCUAUUUAUUAAAUCCUUUGUGAAAUCGUUUGGGUGUCUUAAUUAAAUUUCUCCAUAGCCCAAGAACCCCAAGACCCAACUCUCCAAUGUUAACUACACUUUCCAAACCAUCAUAAUGCUUUUUUUAUAAAUACCUUUAUAGAAGUGAGGAUUUUCGAUGUGUGAUUUUCACAAAGGGCACCUCAAAAGAUAGGCCUGUAGAGAAAUCUAUAUUUUUAUUGUUGGUGCAAUGUGAAAAUAUAUUUAAAGCUCUUAAAGGUCUCCAUGAUGCAUCUGUAAAUACCCUUCAAGGUCAUCUAUCGGCCUUGAUAUUAUUCAACUUCUUAUAGCUGACGUUUACUAUUCUUUGAAGAAAAAAGACAUGCCUUCACCCCCCACAUCAGACAUACCUGAAAUCCUACAAAUUCCACCUCCAUCCUCAUCUCCAAAAGAGUACCUUUAUGUGCAGUGUGGAGGGCGGAGUUAUGGUUUUGAUGUUGACUUCCAUUCUUUGUAAAUACAGGAACCAAAUGAAAAAGAUAUCGCACAAAUUUUGCCUUGCCUUAGAAAUGACCGGAUGAGCUAGAAGGUUUACACCUCAUGCCAGAGGCGGACACACGUUGGGAUAAGAGGGGUCGGACGACCCCUUGGAAGGCUGAAAAUUUGGCAAGGGACUCCAUUAAAGCCCCCUUUAUGCACACCAAGUGCUCGACGAAAGUCCCAAGCCAUUUGUGAAGUCUGCUGUGCAGCUGUGCUGCACCUUGAGCGUGCGCUGCGCAUCUUUUUUUUAUAUUUAAAACGAGCCUUGCCAAACGACGUCGUUUGGUCCAAGGCUCAGUCAAAUAUUUUUUUUAAUUGACAUGGCCUCAAAACAACGUUGUUUUGGGCCAUGUUUAAAAAAAAAAAAAUUUAAAAAAAUUUUAAAAAAAAAACAGAACACAGAACAACACAGAUUCAAUUCGACUCUGCCUCCAAACCCUUCAUUCCCAAUUCCAUAGCUCCUCUUCCCACCCUCUCAAACCUUAUCCUCUCCCAACCUCCAUCAACUCUUCGCCGGUGGCCCAGUGCCGAUCACCACCAUCUUCUGCCGCUGUCCGCCGCCCCCUUUUUAAACUACAAGUAAGCAUGGCAAAAUUUAUAUUAAUAAUUAUAGUGAUAAUAUAUAUUGUUGAUAUUGAUAUUUUUUUUUGAUGUAAUGAAAUUUAUGGAUGUGAAUCAUAUUGAUAUUUUUUUAAUGUAAUUAAAUUUGUGGAUAUGAAUCAUAGUGAUAAUCAUAUUAAUGUAGAUUGAUUGAGUUUAUGCUUGAUUGAUAAUAUGAAUUGAUUGAGUAUAUUGAAUAUUGAUUGCUAUUUGAUAUGAUAAUUUGGUAUAUUGAAUAUUGAUUGAUAUGGGUUUAGGGAGUAUAUUGAAUAUUGAGAGUGGGUUAUUGACCUUUUCAUAUUCAUAUGAUAAUUUGGAUAAAAAUUAAUGAUUGAUUGAAUUAAUUGAUUUGUAGAUUUAUGGAACGAUUCUUUAAAAGAAAAUUAUCUACGGAUAGUCCUUCUCCUUCUAAUCCGGGUAGUUCAAAUGCAAGACCAAUUGAAGUAGAUGAGAUCUUAGCUAAUCUUCAGGCAGACUCUGGACUAAGAACUUGAAUGGCGGAUUAUAGUCUUAAUAUUCGGGAUGAGAUCCGAAGAGCAUAUCUACAAAAGGGACCUUGUCAACCUAGAAGUUAUAAAUUCUCACAAACUAAUCAAUCAGGAAUUAAUAGAUGCUUCAUUGCUCAUUGGUUUGAUGAUCAUGAUUGGUUGGAAUAUAGUAUUGCUAAAGAUGCUGCGUUUUGUCUUCAUUGUUAUCUUUUCAAAUCUAAUUUUGAUCAAGUGGGUGGUGAUGCAUUCACUGGGGUAGGCUUCCAAAAUUGGAAGAAGGCGAAAGAUAUAUUUAACCUUGGUAGUGUUCACAACCAAGGUAGAGAAGUUGCUUACAAUUUGAUGCAUCAAACUACACACAUUGAAACAAUUGUGAUCAAGCAAACAAGCCAAGCUUGCACGGCUUAUCGCACUUGCUUGAAUGCAUCACUUAAGUGCACUAGGUAUUUGUUGCGACAAGGGCUUUCUUUUCGUGGUCAUGAUGAAAGUGCACAAUCAAGUAAUAAAGGGAAUUAUUUAGAGCUCUUGCAAUUUCUUGUGGAUCAUGAUGAAAAAGUUAAGGUCGUUGUGUUGGAAAAUGCUCCGGGAAAUUUAAAGUUAAUAGCUCAUUCAAUUCUUGUGCUAAAGAAACCAUUGGUCUUAUCUUGAGUGAUGUAAAAUAUAGAUAUUUUUCAAUAAUGGUGGAUGAAGCACGUGAUGUUUCAAUAAAGGAGCAAAUGGCGAUGGUGUUGGUUAUGUGAAUGACAAAGGACAAAUAAUUGAAAGGUUUGUGGGGGUUCAACAUGUAAACGAUACUACUUCAAGUGCACUAAAGGAAGCCAUUGAUGAAUUCUUUUCUUCCACGAAUUUGAGCUUUUCCAAGCUACGAGGACAAAGUUAUGAUGGAGCUAGUAAUAUGAGAGGUGAGUUCAAUGGCCUUAAGACAAAGAUUUUGAGAGAACAACCUUGUGCAUUUUUUGUUCAUUGCUUUGGUCAUCAACUUCAACUAGCUCUUGUUGCGGUAGCAAAGAAAAACAUUGAUGUCAACUCUUUUUUCACAAUGGCUAAUAGUUUGGUUAAUGUUGUUGGAGCAUCUUGUAAAUGUCGCGAUGCACUUAGAGCACAAUACUAAGAAGAGCUUGUGAGAGCUUUUGAAGAUGAUUGUCUUAUUACAGGGCGGGGCUUAAAUCAAGAAACUACUCUCAAACGUGCCGGCGAUAAACGAUGGAACUCACAUUAUGGUACGUUGAUUAGUAUCAUUUCUAUGUUCCCAUCUGUGGUGAAUGUGCUUCAAAUGAUUGUUGAUGAUAAUUACAGUUCCUACCAUGGAUGAGGAAUAUGUAAUUCCAGGGAGAUCACAACAUAAUGCUCCAAUGAAGACAAAUUAUCAUCGUUAUUGUGUGGAGAUCUUUAUUCAUGUAAUUGAUGGGCAACUUGCGGAAUUAAAUGAUUGCUUCAACGAGGUAAGUACUGAGUUACUUACUUGUUUGGCAUGCUUGAGUCCGAAAAAUAACUUUGUAGCUUUUGACAAACGAAAGCUAGUUCGUCUUGCUCAAUUUUAUCCUUAUGAUUUUUCGGAUAUAGACUUAUUGAUGUUUGAAGAUAUGUUCAUCAUAUGCGUUCGAGUAGUGAUUUUUCUCAAUUGGAAGAGAUUAGUGGUCUUGCGGAAAAAAUGGCGGAGAAAGGAAUGCAUGAAAUAUUUCCUUUUGUGUAUUUGCUUUUUACAUUGGCUUUGGUUUUACCGGUUGCAACUGCAUCAGUGGAUAGGGCAUUUUCCGCCAUGAAUAUUAUUAAAAAUCCACUUCGCAACAGAAUGGGAGAUCAAUAGUUGAAUGAUAGCUUGAUUGUUUACAUUGAGAGAGAUGUUUUUGUUUGUAUUGAUAACGAAAUUAUAAUGCAACGUUUUCAGAAUAUGAAAACUCGUCGUGGACAAUUGUAACUUGUAUUAUUGGUUUUGUUAUGAAUUAUGAAUAGAAGUACUAUCUUUCUUUAGCAUUAUUUUCUUUGUAGAAAAAUUUCGGAACUUUUACACUAAGCCCCCUUGACUACAUAAUCCUGGAUCCGCCACUGCUUCUAGCUAUACCAUACUGACUCCUUCUUCAAUGAAACUUAAAUCUGGUAUUUUGUUUUUCAAAACUGGCAUGUGCUUGAUAUUCUGUUUUCAGAAAUCAGAAUAAAAGGUGCACUUUGUGAGAUCGUUGUCAACUCUCAUGAUGUGGUCAAUUUUGCAGUUCUCUGGGAAAGUUAGCGUUGAUGGGAUAAAGGGCUGUGAUCAGUUGGUCCUCUACUAUCUGCAGCAGCCUUCAAGCAUGUGAAUUACCAUGAACUUAUUUCCCCUGUUUUGGUUCUUGUUAGUAUUGCCUUGUUUUGUGUAAGAUAUGUUGGCUGCGGCUGCCUAUAUUGAACUCUUGGGACUGGUUUUCUAUUGCAGUGGAAAAGAAAAGGGGAUACACCCUUUCCCAGCACCUGAAAGUCCCUGCGGAAAAGAUAUUGUACUCUCUCUCUCUCUCUCUCUCUCUCUCUCUCUCUCUCUCUCUCUCUCUCUCUCUCUCACCCCAUCCAAUUAUGCAUGCAGUAGUGACUUCUUUUGAUUCUUAUUCUUGAAGAGGAAGGCUUAAUAUAUUCCACGAUUGAUGAGUUUCACUACAAGUCAGCAGCAUAUGGCUAAGUAUUCGUCACGAAUUUUGACUUUGUGCUGCUACGGUUGGAAAGGAACUUAUAUGAAUGCUGUUAUGUAUAUUUCUCUUUCAAUAUCUUUUUAUGUCCAUUUGGAUGGGUUUAGUACCAAAGUUCAAACAAUUAAAUUUGCUGUUUUGGUUGAUCAAAAGCGCUACUCUCCCAGCCAAAAAUAUUCUGGAUUGAACAUUCAGUAUCAAAUACUAAAAUAGUCACAGUAGUUAAUUGUCAUUUAACUAAUUUGUUCUGUGUUCAUUUAAAAACUAAAUUGUUAAAAUCAAGAGGAAAGAUAACACUGCCUGUCUAGCCAUUGAAUUCGAGGAUCCGAGGUUGAUAAGGGUUUCGUUUGUGUAUUAUUCGUUACACUCAUUUUUAUUCUUCUUAUAAUUUCUAGAGUGUCAAUAUCAACUUAGAAUUUGAAUUAAUGUGAAGCAAAAAAGGAAUUAAAGAGUUCAAAUACAAGUCAACUGCAUAUGGUUAAGUAUAUUCGUCACCAAGAUAAUACUGCCUAGCCAUUGAAGGGGAGGUUGAAUUUUGGAGAGGAGGGGGGAAUGGUUGAUAAACAUUUCGUCUAUGUAUUGGUAGCCACCUAAUUUAUUUUUAUUUAUUUAUAAUUUCUAGAGUGUUUCAGUGUAUACAGGACACAAAAUCAACUUAGAGAUAAAGAGUUUAAAUACAACUAAACACAAAGUUAAAAAGAAAAAUGUUGGUUUAGAAUUCUAAGUGAUUUACGAAAGAAUCAACUAAGUAGGUACAUACGAGUUGAACCGAAAAUUUAGGCAUAUAAUUACCAAACUAAGUUUAACUUUUACGCAGACUAUUUAUAAAAAAGUACAACCCUAAAUAAAAUAGGAAAUAAAUCCAAAUUACAAUAGAAAAUAAAUAUAAAUUAUAAUCGGAAAUAAAUUUUAAUUAUAAUAGGACUAGAUAAAUUAAUAAGUAACUAAAAUCCUAACAUCGUAAGAAACUCAAAUUCUAACUAAGUAAGGACUCGUCAACACAUCAUACAUAGGACAUAGGAGAAAGAAAGACCUCGAUGAUCUAGGGUUAACUUAUAUAUAAAGUUCAAAGCCAAGGGAUACCCUAUUAUUAUUCUCCAAUUUCAUGUUGUUGAAAGAUCAUAAAAAUCAAUCAAGCAUGUCGACGGAGACGCAUCUUUUUCGUAGCACAGUACUUAUUACUAUGGAAAGUCGAGAAACAGCAGUACCCGAAACUACUGUAAUCCAAAUCAGUAUGGACGACGGGUUUCCGAUCCGCUUGAAGCUCUUCAACCGUGUCAGAGGAAGCUCCGGCGAUCCAGACCUCCUAACCGAAAGAGGAGUUACGGUCCCUCUCUCUCGUCUCAAGCUAUCAGCCGAAGGCAACAGCAGGAGAAUCCGGCGUCGGUAUAGAAAGGUUCUGGCCGCCAACCUUAUCAGGAUGGGUGUCCCAGAAGAUGAACACCGGGGUAUUAUUUGGAAAAUAUUUCAAGGCCGUUGAUGAUGUGGCCAUCCACGGAAGCAGCCGGGAGGGGUUGCCUACAGUUACUAUCCUCAUGGUCAUGGAGGAGGUGACUUUGAAUAACUAUAAUAAUAAGAAUAUACCCCCAUCGUUAGGUUUUCGAACAAGUGUUGAGGAACCAUUAUAUUACAAGCUGCUUGGAUUAUUCUAUCGUCCUAAAUUUCCUUUUCAUAAACCUCGUUCUGAGGGUGUGGACGGUUUGGACAGAGUGAUGGUUAGGCUGGAAGAAGAGGUUAGAUGUAGGGCAUGUCUAAUUUGUGGCGAGGCCCUUGAUUCUCCUCCUCCUCUUGGAGAAGAAGAAGAAGAUCAUCGUCAACAUCAACAAGAAGAAGGGGUGCCCAAGAAGAUUAGUAUGAUUUCUCGCUUGCCUUGCUCACAUCUUUUUCAUCAAGAUUGCAUUGUGCGGCGGUGGCUGCAUAGUAGGGGGAGGAGUCGCGGCGGCGGUUGUCCCGUGUGCCAAUUGACAAUGCUCGUUAAGGGCACAAAGGACAUGCUCGCGAAAUUUCAAACACCCUCGAGAUCGUGGGGGUUGCCGCUCACGAUAUUUACCGGCGGCUUAAUAACUGCCGGUUCGCUUCUUUGCAAAUUAUUGAAGCAUCGAUCAUCAAAAGGGAAUUAAAUUUGGUGUCUUGUAGUAGGUAUUUUGAAGGUUUAAUAAUUCAUAGUUUCCUGGAGUCAGUCUUUGAAUUUACAAAUUAAUCGAAUUGUUAAUUUUAAUAAAUUAAAUUAGCCUUACAAUUACGGAAUUACUUGUUAUAGUGCUCAUGAUUCUUUUCUUAAUUACUUGUUAUGGUGCUCAUGCUCAUGCUCUGUUAGAUAGUUAGGGGCUAACAAUUGGGUUUUACAAUUUUGUUUUAUUGCUUUUUUUAGGAGUGUAUAAUAUAUUUGAUCUCAACACCAAGUUAAUAACGGAUUAUAAACUAUCCAAUACACAUGUUACAUGUGGAAAUAUUGUUUAACAUAUAGGUUAUAAAAAUAAAAUAUUUUCACAUAUCGUUUGUAUAUUGGAUAGUACACCAGUCACGUGGUGUAUCCAAAACCGGUGCUUUCGUUUCAUUCUGUGGUUCUUAUACUUGUUGGCUUUGCUGGUGACACUAUAAUUUUAAAAUCAUGUUUAGAGAUCUCUAAUUUAAAUUCUGAUAUUAUAAAUAAAAAAUAAAUUAAGAUGUGGAGUUGAUCUGAAACUCAAAAACUGAGAUUUGGGUUAGCCCAAAAUAGUCCCACGACCAAUGUAUUUUGGCCUCCAAAACUUCACCAAGCCCAAUUCCAGGCGGAUUGGAAUUUAGCCCGAGUUUCCAGUCGGACCGCAACAGACAUAUACAAUAGAAUCGUUGCACUUGGGGGUCCCUUACCCCUCCUUCCUACCGCCUCAAAACUUCUACUGUCAGCCUUAGCACGUGACACAACAAUGAACUUAAAUGUGAAGAAAAUUUGGAAAUAAGAGUUUCAAUACAACUAAAAGAAAAAUACGUGUUUUGAUUUUGGAUAGGAAAGAAUCAAAACACGUAUUCAAAAGGGCAACAAGAAAAAUACUGCACUGCAAUAGGGUCAAAAUUUGGACCAAAAAAAGAAAAAUACUUGUACUGAAUUCAAUUCCAGCUCGUCAGCACAUUGAUGCAAGCAUGUGUUCGCUGACUUGGUUCGAGCAGCAAGAACAUCCUUUGGGCUGUAUUUUUAUUCUCUUUUUUCUUUUCUUUAUAAAAACAUUUUAAAAAAUAUAUAAAAAUAACCAACAUCCAGCAAUAUAUAUAUAUAUAUCCUCACACUUUCGUCAACAUCAGAAAGGAAAAAAAAGUUAAUCAUCAUCAUUCAUCAAUCUCUUUGCCUCUUUUGUUCAAUCCUUUGACAAUUUUGUUUUUCUUUCAAAUUCAGGAAUUUCAACACCAAAAUAUGAAAAUUCUAAUUCCUAAAUUCAUAAAGACCAAUCAAAAUUUGUGAUUGCCAUUGUUGAUGAUGAAUUUUAGUUAUAAAAAAAUUGUUUGAUGACCUUAAGUAAUGAAAAAUGAUUAUUUUUAGUAUUUGGAUUAGAUUAUGUGAGGGUCCCAUUUUAAGUUUCACACAAGGCCUUCAAAACUUCAAGACCGACAAUUGUUGGUGAUGAUGGCAACAUGGGGUGGGUGUGGUGGUGACAAUGGUGGUUGAAUGGUAGUGAUGUGAAUGAGUAUGGUGUGGGUGACGAUGGUGGUAGAAGUUGUGGUGGUGAUGGCUACUGCAAAAGAAAAAUGAAAGAAGAGAGGAGGGAGAAGAGGGGUAAUCACCCUUUUUAAGUUCAGUUCAGUAGUGUGAAUGCUGGCACAAUGUCAUUUCUUUGUUUUCUACUCGUACGCUUUUCACGGUCUCUAAAAGAGUGGUGUGUGGUCACUCUGCUACAUUAAAUUCGUUUCCUUGGAUUUAAAGGGCUGUGCCACGUGCGAACACACUCCAUCUGUGAAAAGCUCAAGUGAAAUCCACAAUCCCAUUUCGACACUUGGCAUGUGCCACCUGGCCCUGUGAUCUAGUGUCUCCAUCUCCUUCACGUGAAACCCCUCACAUUUUGAAGAUUUUGAUCUUCCUCCCCCUCAUGCUCAUGUUGGGGACCUCAAUGUUGCUGUACAAGAAUCAUCUCCAAUCAAUAAAAAGUACUCUUGUUUUAUGAUUUUGGAUAAAUUGGUUCUCUUUCCCUUCACAUGAUUUGGAUAUUGGAUAAUGUUUUGUCCCUCUACUUCUUAAUCUUACUCCCCCCAAAUUUUGAUAAGAGAAAAACAUUUUAUCCAUAAAUUCCAAAAAAAAAAGGCAAAUAUAUAUCCAUUGUGGAAUUCUAAUGUGAAAAUUAUAAGCAAAUUCUAAGGAAAAUUUUAGUUGUCGUGACGAUAUCUUUCUCUUAGUAGAAGAUCGGGAAAGAUUUCUCUUGAAAAAUACAGCUUUUAUUCUAGAGAACAGUUAAUUAAAUAGUUCUAGUUUAACUUAAUUAAUUAGUCAGGUUUUAUUUAUAUAACUCUUUCCUUCUUUUUCAGAGAAUCAUAGCAGUAACUAUCAAAUCAUGGGCAUGUCGUUGGUAUAUAUAGCCGUGAGCUGUGCUUAGUGAUUGUAAUUACCAAACUGCCACUGUCUCUUUCGCAGUAGCAACGCACCUAUCUAUGCUCUCCAAAUAACACACACAGCACAAAAUGUAAAUUAAAAAAAAUAUAGUCGACCCAUUUGCUCCAAAUCACAAGAACUUCUUAUUAGAUGAUCACAAAGCCAAUAUUUUACAAAGCAAUCCAAUAUAUAUAAUAUAUAUAUAUAUAUCCCCAAAUAACACAAACAACAUGUAGAUGUACUCUUUAUUACAAGCAAAUAAAAUUAAACCCAAAACAUAUCAAACACUGAACCAACUAAGGAUGACAUAAAGAAGGAAAUUAAACGUAACAAAUGAGACUCACACAACUUUAGGAUACCAACUGAUCAUGUGUCACUCGCAUAUAGCUACACCUACAUGUCUCGGACAUGGAAGAUGUUGGGGUUUUUAAUGACAAUAUCGUACAUGUAAACGGAGUUGAACUUGGAGAAGUCUCUGGGGAGAGAGAUUAGGUCAAUGGAAGAUCGCUUGUGGAAUUGGAAGAGGUCGGGGUCGCCUCCAUAGUACCUCUCCCACCCUAACCCGGUCAAUAUUUGCUCGAGCGUCGAGUAGGACGACACCACCUGUCCACUUGGCAAGUGCACCAAGGCCUUCUUCCUAGAAGAUGUCUCAGCCUGUGGAUUUUCCACCAGACGAAUCACCCCGUUCUUGAAAACCCAAACCCCAGACAUUGUGUUUCUUCUUUCUUUGGUAGUAGCUAGUGCUUUGGUUUUUUUGGGUGGAGGGUAAAUUGAUGCAAAUGCUGUUUGUUUGGAGAUGAGAGAGAGGAUAAGGAAAUGAAUUGAAUUGUGUUGUGUUGUGGCAAAAGAGGAGGGGGGGAAGGGGUAUUUAUAUGUGUCAAAGGGACAAAUAAAAACAAGGGGGAAAUACUCUUUGAGUGGGAGGGAGAAACUGAAAAGGAUGGUGGAUUGUGGUGUGGGCAUGUUUGGCUUUGGAAGAGAAUCUAGAUUAAGUGGGACCCAAUGGGAUUAAAAUUAUGAGGGUGCUGCAUGGAUGAUGCCCCUAGGGUUUGAUUUAGGGCACAAUUCAGCACCAUCCACACACAUCCAAUUCCGUGGGGUUGGGGUUUGGAGGAAUCUUUGUGUAGCUUCAACAUUGCAAGCUAAGCUAAAUGUAGCUUUUUCGAGUGUGCUUUUUAUUUUUUAUUUAUUUAAAUUUUUUUAUGGGGAAUCUUUUAUAUUGCUAGGUUUGGGGCAAUGCAUGCCACUAUUCAUUCAUUAAGAAAAGAUUCAAAAAAGAAGAAAGUCAAAUGAUGGAAAGAAACCCACUUAGAUCACGAGAUGUCCACGUGAAGGGAGUGGGAGUGAUUGAGGCAUAUUUUGAUUUUCUUGUGUGGAUCUUGGGAUGUUGGUGGGUUUGGCGACUGAAAGCAGAUGUUUGGGUUUCUUUCUGUUGGAGACACGUACUCCUUUGCUACUUGUGAUUUUUUGCAACCUUAAAAAAGCCUUGCUUUGCUCACGCUGUCUUGUCAAAUCAGGUUUGGAUUUUGUUUGUGAUUUUCGAGCCUAGAUUUAUGAGAAGGAAAAUUAGUUAGAGUCUAGACUAAUGAAAAAGACAAGUUAAUUAGUAAUGUGAUUAGUACAUAUAUGAUAUAUUAUACGAUUUAGUUAAAUAUGAAUAUGUGAGGAUCUGUGGAUUUUUAUUUGAACUUCAAAUUUUAUGAAUCACAAGCUUCCAAAAUCAUAUAUACUUGUUUUCAAAUUUUUAUUCUAAAAGUGUUGCCGUUCACACUCGGUAUUUGCUUUUAUAUUAUUGAUUAGUAGAAUAUUUACUUUUACAUUUAAGGUUAACUAGCAAAUGACUUUAAAUAUUCGAUUCGUAGACCUUACGUCUCUUUUGCGUCUCUUUUAUCAAAAAUUUAAAAUUAAAAAGAAAAGUAUUCAUCCACUACUUAUCGCUGUAUAUAUAUAUGUACUUGGAAGUUGUUGAUAUUGCUUGAUCUAAAAAGCAAAUUAAAAGAAAAGGAUAGUAAGUCUGCCAAUAAAAUAUGGAAUUUUUCCUUAAAAAGAAAAGCCGUGUGCCAUAAAUAACAUCCCCUUAGUAUCUAAAAGCAGCAAAUUUCAACCAACAAAAUGCUUGAAAUGAUUAAGAUAAGACAGUCAAUUAUUAUUGUAAAUAAUAAUUUUCAUAAUUGUGAUUUCUGAACACCACUCAAAUAAAAUUAUAUAUGUCACACUCAAUUCAAACAUAUAAUUGAGCCCUAAUGUACAAUAAUUUGUCACCAAAAGGACCACUUGACUAAGUCUCAAUUAUCAUUGUCAAAAACUUCAUGCUUUCCACAGUUUCUCACACUCGGAAUUUUAUAAUGCUUCAAAAAAAAUGCCAUGUUGCCCACAUGUCAUCACAUGGGCUACAAUGGUCCUGUAGCCAGAUCGAGGGGCUAGGACCUUUGAGUAGCCGUCUUGUCAAAUCCAUGAUUAGGGUUUUACGUUAGGAUAUUUUGGAGUUUAAACUACCUGCCACGUAGAAGAGACCUGUGGAAAACUAAGACACCACAAAAACUUGAUGUUCUUCAUUUUGAAAUUAACAUGACAAAUGAAGAACCAUGCGACAAGAUAUCAAUUUCAGUACAAAUGUUGGUUUGUGAUCUCAUUAAUGGUGCACUUUGUUUGAUCUGUUUCUUACUGUGUGCAAAUUGCAAAAAGGAAAGUUUGGUUACGAUUAGUCAAUCUUUGAGUUUUCUUGUGGGUCAGGAAAUUCUGUUCUCUUUUUUAUUUUUUAUUUUUUAUAAAUCAUUUUAUCAUCGUUGAUGUUGUAUGAAGGAUCAAAACUUCUCGUGUUAGGGGUUUAAUUAAUCCGUCAAACUUGAUCAAUCAUGUAUGAGUAACUCUAAUAAUACUUCAAUAUAUCCUUAAUCGUUUGUAUAUGUUCAACUCUGUCAUGAGAAUGUCAUGAGUUUAAAUCUCAUGAACGACAAUUGUUGAAUAAAAAGGAAUAACAGUUUAUUAGAAACAUAUUAUUCUUUGUUAUAUUAUUACUUCAAGACUAUCAAUUGUUAAAAAGAAUAGUGGUCCUCAACUUUUGAGUUUGAAAGUUGAUUCCCAUGCUCCCCAUUGCGCAUGUAGAGCAUUGCAUAUGCAGGUUUUUGUAUGCCUUUAGGCAUCCAAGCCCUCGAGCACCAUAUCAUCUUUGCUUCUGUAUGUUCCUCUUUUCACAUGCCCAAGGUCCUAACGAUAUAGACCUCUCCAAUCCUAUCCCCAUUCACUUUGGAAAAUCCUAAAUGGUACCCAAUUCCUUCAAUUUUAGUCCUUUCUAUUUUUGUUGCACUUCCUACUCUAGAAAUUUCUUUGUAAUUAUAUAUAUAUAUAUAUUUCAUUUUAUUGGGUGGAAAAAUUGGGCUAACAGCUCAGAAAUUGCUACACCACAAAGUUCUUCCCCAUGUCAAGUGGAUUGCAUGCCUGGCAUUAGGGUCUACAGCACAACUUGAAGAUAUUAUUAUAGUAUGAGUCUAUUAUGAGGUGUUGCCCUCGAGGUUUUCAAUCCUCUCUUUCUCAAUAUCGCUUGUAUCAAAAGAUUCAACUCCGAUCCGAGUACCGAACAAGUUGCUUUGUAUCUCAGUGACUCUUAAGGCAUGUAGACAUCAAGUAACUUUAAUGAAAUUUAAAGCUCCGAAUUAAUUUAGAGUUCUAUAUUUGGAGGAUAUAUAUAAUGUGAAGUGAUUCAAAACCAGAAAAGAGAAUCCCUUCCUUAUUACGUGCAGCAUAUCACUAUAUGAUGAUGAAAUAAAGAUGCGAAAUGAUCAUUCUUUCGAUCGAUAGUUAAGUGAUUCAAGACCAGAAAAGAGAAUCCCCUCCCUUCCUUACGUGCAUAUUAAUAUGAUGAUGAAAUAAAGAUGCGAAAUGAUCAUUCUUAAUAUGUCAUAUCAAUGAGGUGUUUGGAUCUUGGAGGACAGCUCUAGCUCUACAUGAUUUUCGAUUUUCAUAUUCUUUUUGUUAUAUAUUCUUCGAAUUUUUCAUACGAAUUUCCACAUUCUUUUUUUUCUUUUCUUUUUUUCCCUCCCUUUUUCUCUGUCUACAAAAGUUUUUUGGUGGGGGUGAGCCGUAGAUUCCAUUACACACCACAAACUUUAAGAAACAUGCUUAGCUUUAUAUAUGUAUAUAUUUAUCGUUUAAAAUUAGAAGUGAGAAGAAUCAAGGGAAAGGUAGCCUCCACUAGAAUGUGCUAAGCUCAUUACUAUCUUUUAUAUACUCUGAUAAAAUAAAAUGAAGAACUUCAGGAAUUAACACUUGAAAAACACGGAUUGAUUGUGAUAGCCGAAACUUCUAGAUUUAGCCAAAGUUUUCAUUUUACAUUGGCAACGAGCAUCAGACCUAUAUUCAUCGUCAUCCAAACUACUAUAGAAUAAAGGUGAAGCAUACAGCUUGCGUUUUGGACAUGGUUAGUUUAAUUUAUUUAUUAUUAUUAUUAUUUUUUUUAAAAAAAAUACUGGAGGAAGGGGAAUCAAACCUAAGACCUAGAAUGCAUGGUAAAUGAUCUUAACUACUUGAGCUACACACUCUUUGUUUAAACCCAUUAACUUAAUUACUGUAAAUUCGAUGCAUUUCUGUCGUACUUGGAUAUAAUUUAAUAUCCAUAUACCAUAAUUUUAUGAUUCAUCCUUUCUUUGAGAGAUUUAAAUUUUGAACCCCACAAUACCGUAAUAUAAUUUAAUUCAUAAAAUAGAACAAUAUUUCAAUGAAGUAGUAGUACUUACGGAUUCUACUUAGGGGUUUUUUUUUUUUUUUUUUUUUAAUAAUAAUAUUUAUUUAUUUAAAUUUUAUUCGACAAUAGUGGCAGCAUUUAUACUCAUAACGUAUUUUAUGUGCCAUAAAGCAAGUUCCUAGAGCUAAUGUGCUCUCUGGUAGGCAUAAGUUUAAAUGGUAAUAUAAUAUACAUAUAGAGAUAAUCUAGCUGAAAGGAAUAUUAGAAAAGUUAUUAGGAGGAUAAUCUAGUUUGGUAACUUCAAACAAAACUAGUCUUGUUUUAGAAAUCCGAUGCUAAUUCCCAUCAAAAAGAGCAAAUAGACUGCAAUGAGAAUAAGAUUAGUUAGACGCGCAUAAAAUCCUUGUAAGUAAUAGAUUUUAUAAUUCAGACAUCUCUUUUAAAGGAUUUUGAAAAUUCCAUUUAUAAUAAUAUGUGAGAAACCGUAUACGACACACAUUAAAUGAAUAUGAACGAAAACUAUCCAUAGUGGAUGGGAGACCCUACUCAACCCAAGUUCAGAGGAUGCUUAGGGUUCCAUGCUUAAUUCCAAAUACAAACCACUCAUUUUAAUCUUUUGUUUAAUUACAAACUCACGCUAUGUGACUCAACUUAACACGAUAACAAAAUGAAAUGUAUAUUGCAAAGAAAUGUAUUACAGCACUUCUUGAAGAAAGUUGAGGUUCCACCCCAAAACCAAUUGGCAAUGGGAGGAGUAGUCCAACUCCUUAUAAGUCCUUACUAGGUUUCUCAACUUUCCAAUGUGGGACUUUUUACCUUCACAUUCUCACACUUCUAGAGCUGUCGAAUAGAGGAAGAAGGGAAGAGAGGUUUGCAAGCAAUGUGCCACAAUAAUUUUGCGAUAAACUCAUACCAUGAAGAAGGGAAAAUAUAUUGCUAGCAUUUUUCAUUGAUUUCAGUAACCUGAUUACCUACAGUGAUAGUUGUGCGUGAACACCGCAAUUAAUGUAGCAUUAAACAAGCUUAACAAACGAAUAUAUAACUAAUCCUUUAACUAAUUCUAAUUAGUUUCGAACUAGGAAAAAUGAGUUGUGUUCAAUUUCUCUCUCCCUCUCAUGCUUUGCAAUUAAAUAUUGGCGCAUGGAGAGAGUUUGGUGUUGUACUAGUUUUAGGGCUUUCAAAUUCUUUCUAUUUGUAACUAAUUAGAUGAUAGAGUAAUGCACUCAAUAUAUACGAGACAAGAUAUGAAUAUGAAUUCAAUGAGAUAAAAUCAGCACCGUAGGGGUUUACAACUUACACCAAUUUAAGGAACAAGGGCCUUCUUUAUCUCAACAUUUUAUGAGAAACAAAUUUAAAAAUACAUAGGUCUUUUUUUUUUCCCCAGUUUUUUUGAACCCAUUCUCAUAAUUUCCUCUGAUGAGCUGUGAAUCUGUGAUCAAUACUUCAUCAUCAGAUCUAGUUAAUUAAGCAGCCAAAAGCGAAACCAGCCCCAUGAUCACCACCCCGGCACCAACGGCCAUGAUCUCACGAGUGCGUGAAGCUGCAGAGGGCGCAGGUGCCGAAGGCGUGGGCGCUGUACUAUCUGAAGCUGAGUCAGCAGAUACUGGCGGCGAGGAUUUGUCAUUUCCUUUGCCCUUACCUUUGUGCUUUGACGGAGCUGGAGCCUCGUCUGACGAGCUUGGAGCUUCGUCAUCAGAGUCGUCCUUCUUGGACUUCGAGGGGCUUGGGGCCUUGGCAGACUUGGGUGAGCUGGCAGGGCCCGAGGAGGACGACUCCAUGUCAGGAACAUUAAUAAUGGACCCCACCUGAAGCACUGAAAUGUUGUAGGGCUGGGAAACAACCGACUUAACAAAGUUUACACUGUUGCCAUUCCCGCCCUUGGCUGCAGACUCGAAGGAAAUUUGUCCGUUGUUCACCGAAACCUUGAUGAAGCCUUGCUCCCGCCUUGCCUGACCUGUCGACUGGAACAAAGUUGUGAGAGUGGCGGACUUGUUUGAUUUGAAGAUCUUCUUGAGCUUGUCCUGAUCGUAGUAGUCCAACACCACGUGGACGCUCAGGAUCUUCUUGGCCAUAUCGGAAGACUCCCCGGAGAGGCCUCCCGCACCGCCAUUGUCCACUGCGAGGAUGGUGAUGGUGCUGCGUCUGUUGAUCUCGUCGGCGAGCUUAGUCUGGGAGAGGAGGUUGUUGAAGUUGGAGAAGUCGGAUUGCUUCUCGAGGAGCUUGGUGAUGUUGAAGGCAGAGACAGAGGAGGGUGACGAGAAGAAUGCAAGGAAGACGGCAAGGAAGAAGAAGAAGAGGAGGGAAGAGGCUCUAUGUUCCAUCUUUGUUAGCUGCCACUUCUUGCUUUGCUUUCUUUCUUGCUUUCUUGUUUGCUGCUUUGAGUUGUCAAAGCUUGGUUUUUGUGUUGAGGGAGUUUGUGGGAUUUAAAUAGGGCACAAAUUGUGAGCUAUAAUUAGACAUGCAUGCACAAAAUAGGAUGUUAGGGGUUCUAAAGGUUGGGAGUGAUUUUCUCCCAAUUGGGAUUAGUUCUAGUCGACGCACUCCUUAAAAAUUGCUAACCAUGCGUUAGUUACUCUCUCUAGAAGCAAAUUAACCCAAAUUUAGAAAACUAAAGUUUCUACUCAACACAUUCUAAUCACUUAAUCUUUUAUUUCGCGGGUUGUUGUUCUAGUGGUAAAGAAUAUUUACUCUACACUCAUGAUCAUAAUUUGAGUCGUAUAUCUUCUAUAUUGGCCUCUAAAGUUCAUUAAUUUUAUUUCGCUCAAACUUAAGAAAUAAAUAAAUGUAAAGGGCCAACCAUUGCUGAUGUGAUCUAUGUGUUAUUUUUAUUUUUUUUGGUUUCUUUCACUUUAAAUAAUGUAUUAAUGAAAGUUGCCAUUGAAGAUUUCAUUACAGUAACGAUAGAUUGGAUGAUUUUUUUGGUUUUAGUUAACCAUAUUAUUCAACAAGUAUCAUUCUAAUUUUUGCGUUUUGUAAAUAUUUAUCUGAUUAAUGUAAUUAAAUGAGAUGAAAUUAGUUGUUUUUCCGAUUACAAUGGCUGUUCUGUUGGGUGGUUUGGUUACAGCCAAUAUUUUCCUUUUUUUGGACUUCUAGAUGCAGUGAAAAUUUAGGUAAAUACACCCAGUUUAAUAGAUAAUUAAAUUAAAAAUUAUAUUAUUCUUUAAAAUUACUAUAAUAAAAAAUUUGAUAAAGAAAAACAAGAUUAACCUCCAAUUAUUUACAAUCAAAUAUGCAGGGAGAUGGCCACCCAUAAUUUCAUCCUUUUUAGGGAAAAAAAAUAUUGAAUAUUAUUUUUGUUGUGUUUUAAGGUGUGUUGAGCAAUGAUAUAUUUCAAAAUUUAUAAGCUAAAUGACCUGAGUAAGGCCAUCUCCAAUGGAGAGGGCCAAAUGUCAAAUUUUGGCAAUAUGGUCUGGAUGGAGCCCCCAACGCAUGUAUAGGGCCAUGCAAAAUAUCAAUUCAGUCAAUUAUUUUGGGUGGAAUAGCAGUCCACGUUUUGCCUAGACUGAAAUUUGGUAGAGCCCACUCACACGACCCACUACCCCAUGUGUAAAGUGAUUUUUUUGACCUAUUAGAGUUAAAACUAUUUUAAAACAAUUUAAUAAGGCUACGGAUUCAAAAUUUGAGUUUGGAGGAUUGGGGAAAAAAUAUUUGAAUCCGGACAAUACAUGAAUAAUUGUAUUUUGAAGGAUGAAAAUUUAGAUUUAGCCCUUUUAGCAUUGGAGAUGGCCUAGUGUAAUGGGGUGUCAUGGUCAAAUCCUUGGGUGUAUAUUUAGAAGCCCUUGUUACACAUUUACAAAUAAACUAGCCCAUGAAACCAGUUUCAUGGACCGUCCAUUUACCUUUUUGAAGAAGCCCAAUGAGAGCCACUUGUAAUCUUUCAAUCUCAACAAGACAAACCCACUCUUUUUCAUUACCAAUUUUACUUUGUCAAUUCUCAUCUCCCAUUUUUCCCUCUCUCUCUCUCUCUCUCUCUCUCUCUCUCUCUCUCCAUUGGCUCUCUUUCCCACAACCUUGUCCCAUACUCGAGGAAUGUAUAACAUAAUUUCUUGUAAGUCUUUUUUUUGGAUUGAUGGAGUUUGGGGUUUCGUACUUGGGAUCUUUUUUAAUAUUGGGAAGAGAAGUACCACUAAACUAAGAGCUAGUUGGUUCGUAUAAAUCAUUCUUAAUUUGACUAUUUGAUAUUGAAAUGUAACAUACUUGUAUACCUCAUAGAGACCCAUUCACGUAGAAUGGCUUGUUGUCCGUAAAUAUUUGGACACUAUCGAAUUUAGUCGUCCAAUUUCAUCAUUAUUAAGUUUACCAAACAUGGUUUAUGUUAAUAUUAUAAUUAUAAUUAGAUAGAUCAUAUAUAUUUAAUAGCUUGUGAAAAUGCACUUAAAGGGUAAUCUCUAAUGAUUCCAAAACAAUGGUUGUCAGAAGAAUGUAUAUGUUUUUACAUACAUUUCCCCACAAAAACCAUUAAGUUUGUAUUGUACCCUUCAAGAUUUGAUCUUUUCUGUUCCUAAUACAUUCAUAUCUCCUCUUUUGAAAAAAACCCCAAAAAAAAAAAAAAAAAACUUAAGCAACCAAAAGUGAGGCCAAGCCGAUCAUCACACCGGCACCAACGGCCAUAUCAACGCGAGAAGCAGCAGAUGGGGCAGGGGCAGGGGCAGUGCUUGAUCCUGCCUCGUCAGGCACUGGUGGUGACGACGAUGUCGUCUCAUCGGACGAUGUAGGUGCCUUGGACUUGGACGACUUGGGCGAGGCGCUUGGGGCCUCGUCAUCGGACGAUGAAGAAGGAGCCUUGGAUGGGGAAGGAGAUGACUUGGGAGAGCCAGCAGGGCUUGAGGCAGCAAUGUCAGGGAUGUCAAUCAGCUCAGAGACUUGAAGAACAGAAAUAUUGAACGGCUGAGAAACAACGGAUUUAACAAGCUUGGCGUUGAGCUUGCUGCCUUUGGCGGCGGACCCGAAAGCGAGCUCGCCUUCGUUGACAAUGCCGGCGUUGAUAAAGCCCUGCUGGUUCUGAGCUUGGCCGGAGGACUGGAACAUGGUGGUGAGGGUGGUGGCCUUGCUGGACUUGGCCAGCUUGGUCAGCUUCUGCUCAUCAUAAUAGUCCAGGAUCACGUGGGCGCUCAGGAUCUUCUUGACCACGUCUUGGGAUUUGCCAGCGAGGCUGGAGAUGGCGCCGUUGCCGACGGCCAAGACGGUGAUGGUGCUGCGGCUGUUAAUCUGUUCGCCAAGUUUGGUCUCCUUGAGGUAGGUGUUGAAGUUGCUGAACUCCGACUGCUUCUCCAGUAGCUUUGUGAUGUCGAAGGCCGAGGCCGAAGAGGAGAAGACAAUGAAGAGGAGGGCAAGGCAGAGGAUGGUAGAGGCUUUGUUCUCCAUCUUUUUAUUCUUCUUGCUUUGCCUUAUUUAUUCCUGCUUUGAAAGAAAUGGUUGCUUAUUGUUUUCUUUCAAAGCCUGAUUUGUGCAGAGGGCGGUUUGGGGGAUUUAUACAGAGAUUGAUUGCUAUAAUUAGAGAAACAAAAUUGGAUGUUGGAGCCUGAAGGUUAGGAGUGAAUUUCUCUCUGCCCUACACAAAAAAAGGCCAAGAGAUUUGACCAGGUUUUUUUUUCUUUCUCAUAAUAAGAACAGAAAAACACAACUGAAAGCCUGUUAGAUUAUAAUAACCAAUGUAUAUUUGACACAAAAAGAUAGUAAUAUAGGGUUAUGGAAAAUAUUUGUUUAAUUCCUCUCGAACAUAGAUUAUUGUAUGGUACUAGAAUACGCUCACGUAAUAUACAACUUCACAUAUUAGUGAUGAGUUUAGGGUUUACAAACGGUUUUAUAUUUGUUAGAAUUCAGUUUUAGGAAAACAGUGGACACUUGCAGGAUGACAGUUAAUGACAAUUAAGUUAAAUGAUGUAAAAAUGGGGUGUUGAAGCUAAUAAUCACCUUGCAUGCCAGAGUCGAUAUGUCAAUCAAAACUCCAAAAUUGCUGCUUCUAAACAUGGUAAUUUCAUCAACAGCCUUGCCUAUAAAAAUUACCAACACCCUUCUCAAUUUUCACAACCAAAAAGAAAAAAAACUAUGGCUUCUCUCAAUGUCUCUUCCCUCCUUCUCCUCCUUGCUUCUCCAGUGCUUCUGGUCUUCAUCAACUUGGUUACGGCAGCAGCCUUGGACGUCCCUAAUAAUCUCCCACAAAAUUUGAAAGAUUUGGGUGCCCUCGGGGACGAGGACACUAAAUCCAAGAUCAUUAAUCAGAUCAACGGCCAAGCUGGAACAUUGGCAAAUGCACCAAAGAGUGAUGCUACUGGUGCUCUAGCCAACAUGCUCAAUUCUGCUCCGGCGCCUCAAGGUAAAGAUCAAAUUACCAAAAUCAUGGAUCAACUCAAAGGGCCAGCCCCACAGGCCGCAGAUGCACUCAAGACUGGAGGGGAGGAUACAAUGCUAUCCCAAAUGUUCAAGUCUGCUCCGGGGCCUGGCGGCAGCGCUGUAGCUGGCGCCGCUGUGGAUGUCUUUACAAGUAUAUUGAAGCGUGGUCCACCAGCCACUGAUGGCAGCCAACAAAAGCCAGAGGCCCCUCCUACGGUUUCGGGUUCACCAACUCAGGUGGCUUCCGGCGUCCUCCUUGGUGUUGUUGCCAUCUUCUCAUCUUUUGUGGCAUUGUAAGGAAAGCAUGUAGCAUAAGACAUAGAGAGCAAAAUGGAGAAGGGGGAAGAAUUGGAGGCGCCAGUCUUCAUGUCCCCAAAAACUAGGGAUGGCGGAAAUCCCCGUCGGGUCCCCAAUCCUAAUGGGGCGGGUACGGGAUCCUCAAUUUAAAAAUAUCCGAUCGGAGACGAGGUGGUGAUGGUAUUGUUAUUCCCAUUUCCGAACCCGGCCGCAUAAGUGAUGUAUUUGUUUUUAAUUAAUAAAUAUGUUAAAUAAUAUAAUAUAACAAUUAAAAAAUUACCCUAACCUUUGUAAGAUGAUGAAACUUUGGAAUGUUUAUUAUUAUUAUAUGAUUUUACUAUAGGAACCUUCCCUUUAGGCUUCUUCGGACCUGAAAAUUCCACCAAAUACUUCCUUUUUAUAUGGUACAACACAAUCGCAAAUACACCAAUAAUAUGGGUUGCUAACAAAGAAUCCCCAAUUGAUUAUCUGGGUGUUUUCAUACUCGGCUAUGAUGGACAUUCUGGUGUGUUAGAUGGUAGUUAUUUGGUCAUCAAAUGCAUUAUGCAUAUCUGCUUCUGCAUUGAAUGCCAUCACAAUUAAAAGUUAUCCUAAGCUUUGUAGAAUGGUGAAAUUCUAUUGAAUUAAAUUGAGAUGAUUUUGAAUAGUUAAGUGAAAUUUUAUAAUUCAAUUAAAUAGGUGAAAUUUAUGUGUUAUAAUAUGAAUAUUUUUUUUUAUAAUUGUUUUUAAAACUGGGGAUUCGGGCCGGGUUUGGAAUACCAACCCCCGACAGGAUAAGGAUGGGAAUUCUCUGAAAAUGCAAGUCAGGGAAAGGAGUGGGUAUGGGGAGCGGAGACGGGAAUUAUAUUGCUAUACCCAAUCCCUAACCGGCUAGUUGCCAUCCCUACCCAAAAACCCCCAAAGUGAAUGGCAGAGAUCAAAAACAUGUUUUAACAAUAGAAACGCAGUACAUGAUUUUAUCAAAUUUCUUUUUCAUUAUUCCUCUAAUGAUAUUAUUUGUUAUCAAUUUUUUUGAGAGGAUGGAAAAUUUCCUCUGGCUCCAAACAAUUCUCUGUACUUCCCAAAAAUUUAUUUUCCUUUUUUAUUUCUUUUACAAACUUAAAAUGCAUACAUAUAAGGGAAAAGUAGGAAAAUAAUCAUUCAACUUCAAUCUAUUAUCAAAUCUAAACAAAGAUCAUUAACGGAAAUUGAUAUUAUAAACCUAUGAGCAGACAAAAUCUCGGGCAUACUUACGAAAUGGUGGCAGUCAUGAAGAAACUUCUAACCACUCGAAGACGCAGAAUAGAUUUCCAUUUCUGUCUGAUAUACAAGCAUAUAAUAAACUCUAAUUGGGAUGUGAUAGAAAAUAAUAAUAAUAAUAAAUAAAAACCUUUGCUUGGGUAUAGAAAGCCUUAAGAAUAAUGCAUAGUGGAGCGGAACUGGAAAUCAAAUCUGGAAUCUGGAAUAUUAUGCUGUUAAAGCAGUUCAACUGAUUUCCUUCAAGCACUUACAAAAAGAGUAGGAUCAUCUGUAACCUACAUUCACUUGUAUGCGACGGCUAAUCAUUUAGGUCCUUCAAAAGUAUCCAGAUCAGUAUCGGCCCAACUUUACAGUCAUCGUUAGAACACAACCAUAUGCAAAUCAGUAGUAAAAAACUCUACUGUCAAAACAGCCAAUGAACUUUGGCUACCCCGAAAAAGACGGUUAGUUCUAAUAACAAAAACUCCGCUGCCAUGCUAUGCACCACCUCCUUCAUUUGAUCUUCUCAAUUAUAUUGCCAAUGACUUCCUCCAUGUUCAGAUCCUUCAUUGGUUUAAACGGUCGCUUCAUGCCCUGCAACAGACAUAAAUGACAACUCAGAAAAAGUAAUUAAUUCUUAAUAGGCUGAUAACACGUAGUGUGGAUCAUUUCUUCACCAUAAUAAACCGUCUCAUGGAUCAGAAUCUUAAGAUCACCCUCCCUUCAUAAAUCUAAAUGAUCUAACCCAGCGUUCUUUUUUAAGAUACGAGAGGACCAGAGUUUAUCUGACAUAACCUUGGCCUGAUUCACCAAAUAUAAUCAAAGCAAAGAGGUUCAACUGCAAGUAUAAUUUGUCUGACCAAGUAAAGGUGGGGCAAAUAUUCUUGUCAGCAGCUCAAAUCUUUAGGGAACACCUUGAGUAUGGCUCAUUUGGGCCAAAGCAAGCUCAGAUGCAAAAGGAAAUAUUCAACCCAAGAUAAAACUUGACUAAUUUAUGUCAGCCCAAGCUUGAGGACUAUAAUGCCCAACCGGGGUCUAGCCUACCCCCUUACAGCUUCUUUUAGCAUUUCUUUUAAACAAAAACUUACCUUUCCAGUGAAAAAAAAGAGUAAGCUCUUCGCUCGCCCAUAGGAUCAUUCAAAAUGUAAAUAAAAAACUUGAGGUCGUCACAAAUGCAACUUGUAAAAAUAUAAUAAUGCGGGUGUAAGAAUUACCAAAAGACUGAUGAAUGUCUCACCACCUUCCUCCCGUAUUUCAAAGCAGCCCCUUCUUGGCUAUUUCCAGAAAGAAAAUAAAGGAAAAAGUCAGAUGAUUAUUUAUGCUGAUGAUGCCUUGAUCCAUUAAUUAUUGAUUGAAAACUACUGAAAUACCAAACACUUUAGUCCUAGAGAUUUAUUUGCUAUUUUCCUAGUGACAAAAGGUUUUGUAUGAUUCUAAUCUGCGCCCUAAUGCCUUGUACAUUAGCUUCCAAAUAGUUUGAAUACUUAUAACUUCUAAACUAAAACUUCUUUCCUAUAGUUGAAUAACAGGUCUACAAAGCAAUUAUGCAUAAAUACCAAAUUCGGUAUAUCCCCUUAUCUGGUUAUUCAAGUGAAAGAUUAUCAAACUUAAGCCAAUUUCUAUUAGGGUCCAUUUGAGAAGAGUAGUUUCACAUUUAGGGAUAUAGUGAAACCCCUAUAGUUGGACUAUUAAAAUGCAAACCUAUAUUUGAAUUAGAGAAAAAGAAGAAACGUAUGGAUUUCAAAUGAUUCCUUGUAUGCAGUCAUUUCAAAUACACUAUGUCUAGUGCUUUACAGGUUUUCUACUAAUUCAGUCUUAUUGUAAUAUCCAAACGCUUUCUUUUAAAUCAUUUCAUCUAAAACUCAAAUUCAUGGACAAAAUUAAUAUCCUUCAACAAGUAUACCUUAUCAGGGUUUAUGAGAACUGUGAUACCAGGAACGCCUUUCUCUAAACCACCUUUGACCUGAUUAGCUCUUGUCUUGAAUGAAUUGCAUUGCUUGCUACAGAAAAGAAGCAAACACUAGUUAAAAAGAACAAUAAGAUGAAACUGCAAGUAGCAAAAACCAAAUACUAACUGAAAAAGGCAAAAGCAAACCCAAUAUGGGCUAUGCGGAAAAGGAAACGUACAAUGGUUCCCUACUUUCAGAGAGGCUAUUUUGCCAACUGGAGCAUGUAAACAUAGUCACUUGGAGUAAAUAUUGUUGUGCCUGAUGGACACCUCAACAAAAACUGAGGACCAACUAUCUACAAAAUAUUCCUCAUACUCAUUAAAACAGAAAAGGCAGCGGACUGCACAAGACACUCGCUAAUGUGGGGUUUGGGAACGACAUGACAUACACAGCCAUACCUCUGUUUCUGGAAGCAAAGGUCCAUGAAAUUGUAUCCACCAAUGAAACUACUCAAAAAAUAAAAAAUAAAAAAGAAGAAACAUUCUAAGUUCUGAUUCAUAACUAUAUUUACUUAUUUCACAAGCUGGUAGAAUCAAAGGCUCUCUUAAAAGAAUGAAUUUUAGUUGGACCAACGAAGAAGUAUUUACCACAGACGCAACAAAUGUGCACUGUUUAAUGGUCAAGAAGAAUCUUGAUUCCAAAACCAGUUCCUGCUUUCUAAAUGCCAAGUUAAACAUGAAGCAGAGAAGGGGCCAAACACCUCAGCUUUACAUUUAAACCACAGACAGAACCCCUUAAAUCAUUGGCUUUUAUCUAGGGGCCAAACACCUUAAAUCAUUAUGUAAAUAAUGAAACCAUGACAUAGAAAAUGAAUAAAAAUACCAAACAAAAAUUGUUGUGAAUCAAGUUUUUUAACUCCUAUUUUUCUGUAGGUACCAUGAGGCUCACAUAUCAUUUUCCUUUUCUUCCAUUCUUUCUCACACAGCCACAUUCGUAAAGAGGAAAGAAAGAAAGACAAAGCGACAACCAUUACCCAACCAAAUUAAGCCAAAAUCAUUGUUCCUUCCUUUCUUCAAAAGAAGAAGGACAGAAAGAAAAAAAAAAGAGACCGAAACUGACUUAAUUUUCGUUUCAUCUUUCCUUGGUAACCAAACAGAAGAACAAGACAAAUCAAACUACAAAUUACCACUACGUAAUACAGCGCUUACGAUUCCAAUUUCCUGAUUGUCAUAAGUUUUCUGAGGAAAUAGCUAUAACUUAUAAUAAAACCCCCAAAAAUAAAAGCAUACUCAAGAAACCCUAGUGUUCUGAUAAAUUGAAAAAGAAAGAAAAUAGCAAAAUCUCAAAGCGAAAACCAUGGUAUGAACAAAAAAUGAAUAAGUAAAUAGAUUUUUUUAAAAUAAAUAAAACAAGAAGCGUAAUAAGAAAUUAAAUUUUCUUGCAUAUUCCGAAAAUUUCUCAGUAACCAAAAAAGGCAAAACGAAGAAGAGGAAACGAAUACAGAGGGAUAAAAUUGCCUCACCAGUGCUCAAUCACAAUGGUCUUCUUGUUUGACCCCUCACCAUCAUUCUCCUCAGCUUCGUCUCCUUCGACCUCAUCUUUCUCGCCCUCAGUCUCAGCCCCCUCCGUUUCCUCACCAUCAUUCUCCUCAGCUUCGUCUCCUUCGACCUCCUCUUUCUCGCCCUCGGCCUCAGCCCCCUCCUCGCUCUCUUCGGCCUUCUCCUUCUCUUCCUCCACAUCUUCCCCUUCCGCUUCCGCUUCGUCUUUCUCUUCCUCUUCCGCCUUCUCUUUCUUCGGCUCCUUCUUCUUCUGAGCUCCCUUGGCCUUCUUCCGCGCCGGAAACUCGGGACGUGACUCAACCGGGUUUGCACUCGAAGCUUCCCGAGUCAAGCUCCGAGUCACUCGCCUAGUGGAGCUGUGAGUCACCACCGUGGUCGUCACCGUGGUCACCUCGGCCGGCUCCUCUUUCUGAUUCUUGCGUUUCCUCGGCGCCAUUGUCACAAAAUCCACAAACCCUAACAGACUAGCAGAGCUCGGAGAGAGAGAGAGAGAGAGAGAGAGAGAGAGAGAGUUGCGUUUAGCUUCUCUCACAAGCAAAGGCAACGAAACGGAAAACUGACUCGCUCCGGCUGAGUGUGGUGUGGUUUUUGUACCUGACAGAUGGCUCGCAGAUAAUUUUUCAUUUUCCCGCGCUUUCGCUGAUCGCGUAUUUGAACAGACGGCUACGAUUUGCUCAUAGGGUAGUGAAUGACUGCAGGCCGUCGAUGGAUGAGCGAGUACGGUGUAGCAGUGAUCUGUGACUCCUGAUGGGAAAUGAAAAGGCUUUUUGGGUGUCGAACCACGUCCACACAAUUUCUCUCUCUUAUGCGGACACGCUCAUCAAGACAUAAAAUAGUUUUUUUAUUUCUUUCAGAUUGAUGUAUAUAUAUCAAUAUAAAAAAUAUAUUUUUUAUUGUUUUUUUAUUUAUAAUUCUUUUGUAAGAAGUAGUUGGAGUUUUAAAAAUUUAUAUCUUAAAUCCAACUUUAUACUCUCUUGUGUAAUUAAGAAAAAAAGGUUCUCAUCUUACUAAAUGACAAAAGGAUGAAUUUCAUGCUUUUCUAAAAUUAAUUGAGAGGAUUGAUUUGGUGUCAUUUGCUAAUUUAGCUUUUGAGUACUACUAGUGACGUCAUCUUUGUUUACCAAGUUUCGCGUGUUUGAUUGAUUCAAAUUUGAGUUUAUUUUAUGUGUUAUUAUAUAUUUGGAGAUUUUUUUUUUAUAUUAAAGAUUGGUUACAUACUUCUAAUAUAGGUUGUUAGAUCGUAUUCAUUAAUCUCUUAAAUACAAUUCAACGACCGAAAUUAAAAAUAUUAAAAAAAUUGCAAUCAAUAUCCAUAAGAUAAGUUUAGAUCUGAGGAGAGAGAAAUGACUCCUAGUAGCUCCCUAUAAUUUAAUGCUGAUAUAUUUAAUGAGUAUUUCAAAUAUUUAAUUAUUAUUUAUUAUUUAUUAUAUUUUUUUAAUAGAGAUUGACCAAUUAAAAAAGAGUUAUAGCAUUUAUGACUCCCUAACUAGGGAGCAUGAUUGGAGUUUAAAUUUUAUAAAGAGCUCCUAAAAUAACUUUUAUAUGUUUUUAGCUAAAAUUUAACUAAAAAAUAGAGAGCAUGAUUGUGGAUGCUCUUACUAUUCACAUGAAUAGUACUUGCCUUGUUAAUUUUUUUGUAGUUUUCCACCUAUUGCCAUGGCAAACUAAGGGCAAUCACUAUUCACAUGAGAUAUGCAGAGAUGAAUUUGUAUAGAGUUUUGGUGUGUGAAGUGAAGAAUAUGGCUAGGUAUUUAGAAAUAAAUAAAAAAUUCUGAAUUUUUUUGUAUAAAAAUUUCGUUGCUAACGUCAUCACAGCUCUUAAGCAACAGCUCAGGUUAUUCUUGCUUUCAAGUACUGACUUGGUGGAGCCCACGCCUUGCCUGGGCUGUUUUGUACAGUUGGAGUGCAUUUCUUGGCCUAGGGAGCCUAUUGCCCAGACUAAGGCCUCCCAGUGGAAAUGCUCUUAGAGUUUAUGUUGGUUUUGUUAUUCGAGACCAUAGGGAUAUGCUAAGGUUGUAGGUUUAUUUUCUUUAGGUUUGAAGUUUUAAUUUAGUGAAGUAAAUGGUUUGAAGUAUGAGUUGUAUGGUAGUAGGAAUGUAGGCAUCCUUGUUGUAAUUAUAUUCAUGGCUUAAAAACACAAAAAAGCAAGAAGAAUCACUAUUUAGUAGUUUGAUGUGCUUGAGAGCUUAGUAUGUAGAGAGAGACUUUCAUGCAACGAGAAUAACACUUUUUGCUAUUCUGGUCAAUAGUGCAAUGACAUGCAUGAUAACUUUUUCACGUGUCAUUGCAUUAUUGGCAAAAAAUAGCAAAAUAGUGCUAUCUUCAUUACAAUAAAGUUUUUUUGCUAGUAUGUAACUAGGAAGAGGAGCCAAACAGAGCCAAAAAGCGUUCUAAUAGCAUUCACAAUGGACUCCUUAAACUACCUCCUAAAAUAAGGAAACUUCUAGGAGCUCAUAAAUAUGAAGAGAGAUGAAGGACUCAUAGUGGUUCCCUGUAGUUUAAUACUAUUUUAUUUUAUGAGUAUUUUAAACCUUAAUUAAUGUUAAUGAUUUAUAUAUAUAUUUUUUUUAUAGAACUUGGCCAAUUAAAAAAGAGUUAUAGUAUUUAUGACUUCUUAAACUAGAGAGUAUGAUUGGAGUUAAAAUUUUAUAGAGAGCUCCUAAAAUAAAUUCUAAUAUUUUUAAUUAAAUUUUAACUAAAAAAUAAAGAGCAUGAUUACAGAUGCUCUAAAAUUAAGGGUAGUAAUUUUCCACUUACACUCUAUUUUAUUUUUAUAAUAAUUUUUACUAUAACAAGAAAGAAAAUGUAGAACAAAAGAGGAGUGGUAAAAGCUCGGAACGCUUCGACCAAAACAAAAACAGAAAAAAGCUCGGAACGCUGACCAAUUAGAUAAGGCAAAGAAAUAAAGUUUUCAUACGUGGCGUCAUCUACACCAAUAGCCUAAACCAAAGCGGUCCCGCCUUUGAUUUGCAUUGCCUACGUGGCACCACUUCACCUGUAAUCAGAUAACUGCAAUCGCUUAGCAGAUUUUCACAAUCUGGUCGAAGCCCCGCCUUUCCUCCAUGGCUGCUGCAUUAACCUCUUCAUUAGCUUUGUCACCCUCCACAUUCAGAGGAGGCCCUGAGCCCUCGAAACCCCAAUUCCUCAAUUUUUGCUCAAAACCCACAAAUUUGGCUUUUGCCAUUUUACCUUACACUCGUUGUCGUCGGCACAAAACGUUGAGGAUAUUGGCCUCUGUUUCAGUCUCCAACCCCCAAGUGCUGACCGGUCCCGAAGAGCUCUCUGCGUCUAUUCUUUCCAAGGUAUGGCUUUUAUCAAUCCCAUGUUUUAGUUUUUUGGUUUUUCAAUUCUGGGUUCGUGAUUUGUUGUACAGUAGCUGAGAAAAUGUGAUUUUUUUAUCCAUAUUAGUUUCACUGUUGCCUUGUUGGAAAAUUAAUAGGCUUAUGUUAAUGGAUUUAGUACUGUAUGAAGUAUCGUAUGUGCAGUUUGAUUUGUGGUUUAUGCCAAGUCUUUUUAUUUAUUUUAUAUUUGACUCAUGAAAUAUGACUUAUGAUCUGAAUCAGGUGACACAUUCUGAUAGAGGAGUUUUGCUGAAAAAGGAAGAACAAGAAGAGGUAGCUGAAGUGGCUGAGAAAUUGCAGAGCUUUUGCGUUAGUGAACCAGUGAAAUGCCCUCUUAUUUUCGGAGGUAAAUCCCAUUAAGGUGUGGACUUUGUUUCUGGAGAUGCAUAUUACAGCUUAACUUUUGGGCUGAAAUAUCUUCUUUUCUGGCAUUGUGGCCAAAACUCAAAACUCUCAGUUCAAAAUUAGUCUCGACUUCAAAGUUAAAAGAAGUUAAAAGUUGAAGAACAAGCAUCCAUAUGACAUAUGAUUUUCAACUUUAUCCAGGUGUUGAAAACAACAAUGACAAUUACCACAACUGCCUUGGCAUUUGUUUUUGAAAAUUAGCAUGAGCAACUGUUUGGCUCUGUGUAACGUAUUUGAUAAUCUGCUCAUUACUAUUACAUGGUAUGCAUUUCUUUGUUGUUGUUGGUCAUAUGAUGAUUUAAUCUAGUGCUUUCACAGAUUGGGAUGUGGUGUACUGUUCAGUGCCGACAUCACCCGGGGGUGGCUACAGAAGUACGUUAGGCCGCCUUGUUUUUAAAACGAAGGAGAUGAUUCAAGUUAUUGAAGCUCCUGACAUUGUCAAAAACAAAGUCUCCUUCUCUGCUUUUGGGUUCUUGGAUGGAGAAGUCUCUUUAACAGGUAGGCUGCUAAGGCUAAGAUAAUACCGAUGUUUAUUUUUUUCCUGAUUAUACGCUUUGCUUUGUAGUUUGAACUUUAAACACCAUUCUCAUUUUCUGGUCUGGUCAGUGAUGGUUGUGUUAGCAACAAAGCUCCUUUUAUUGAACAUUGUAUGAAAUCCAAUCUGUUGUUGUAAGCUUCUGUUAUUCUUUACCUCACAUACCUACCUUUGACAACAACAAAAUCACAUUAUCAAGUUUCAUAUGCUAAUCUUUUCAUAAGCUUGUUCCCUUUUCUACUUGAUUGAGUGUUCUCAACUUCUCAUCUCUGCACGCACGAGCAGGAAAGUUGAAGGCUUUAGACGAUAAAUGGAUCCAAGUUAUAUUUGAGCCACCAGAACUGAAGGUUGGUGCAUUGGAGUUCCGAUACGGCGGUGAAAGCGAGGUUAAACUCCAGAUCACAUACAUAGAUGACAAGGUCAGGUUGGGGAAGGGCUCUAAAGGUUCACUAUUUGUUUUCCAAAGACGUGGUAAUUCCACUUGAAAUGGUUAUUGUGAGACAAGAACCGUUUUCCAUGAAAAAUGUAACGCUUAAUGCUGCAAACAAAUGUGUGAUAUCUCAAUGCUAUUAUUGUACAUCUGAAGCUACUUUGAUACGACUGAACAUGUUAGAUCAACGGAAAGUUGGGCCUUAGAUUUCGAAAGCUACAAUCAACAUGAUCGCGAACACACUAAAACAUGAAAAUUUGCUUGAUCUAAAACAAGUGAGAAGUGUUGCAGCAGACAAAGGAAAAGUAGACAAUCUUCUCUAUAAAAAAUGUAGUAACACAAAAAGGUUUCUUGAGGUCCAAACAAUCAAAAUGCAAUUCCAAAAUUCCAAAUUGACAAAAAAGAAGAAAGGGAAUGUUGUUAGCCAGGGCCUACUUUGGGAAUGUCAUGAUGCUCACUAAGAUUUGCCAGAUAGUGGUUAAAUUCCUGAACCCGAUCGCGAUGUGAUUUUUUGGCCAUCUUGGCAAGCUUUUUCAGUUGAAUCCUCUCUGUCUGUUGGAGGUACCGCCUCUCCGCGGGUGUCAGAUGAUCAUCAUAAGCCCCAGCCUGUCCUCUGCCACCGUCAUUCUCAGUAUCAUCCAUCACUGCUUCUCCACCUAUCACCCUCCAAAACAAAAAAUUGAUUUCUCCAUUAGCGAAACAAAAAUCACAACCUCCAAACAAAAAAGAUCAAAACUUUACCACAAAAUUGGAAAAGGGUUCAUUCAUAUUUGUAAAUUUUAAUCACCACCUACCAAUCCCGUCUUCCACGGGACCAUAAAUUCAAAAAAAACACCCAAAUAAAUAAAUAUAAAUAAAAAUUUCAAGAAUAUAAUAUCAGAUUACAUGCAAUGCAACGCAGAAAAUAAGAAUUUGAGUAGAAUUAGAAAAGGAGGGAAGGGCAUCAACUACCCUUGUGAGGCUUGAGACAAUUGGUGAUAAUAAUUGCUGCGUUUCUUCUUAUUUUUCUUUGAAACCCCACCUCCUUUCACGGCCAAGGGUUUUCCUUUCAGCUUCAGCUUCCCAACAACAACUACGUUAUCGAAAGCAGACAUCUUUACUGGAAGAGAUUACGCGAGAGAAUGAGAAUUGAUCGUCGAACCCUUCAAUUCUGUGAUUAUGGCAAAUAUAUAAUAUGCAGGGACGUAGGUUCUAGAAACUCCUCAAACUCUCUCCUCUUCCCCAACGGACAUGCACGCACAUUGAGUUAUGGGCCUACAUCAAUGGGUUAUGGGCUUCAAUUCCAAAUACAAGUCCAACCCAGAGUCUGUCCCCUGCUCUAACCCAACGUCUCAUCAUUUUAGAAGCACGUUCUAUGAGGCUAGAAAUUUUUAUGGGUUUUAUUAGAAGCUUUGCUUCUGCUGUUGAACUCUCGGCGGUUUCACUCAGGGCCGUGAAAAGCCGUCGCUUAACGCUAAUUGAGAGAGAGAGAGAGAGAGAGAGAGAGAUUAAUAUCAGUAUUCGAGUUAUGUUUCUUUGUUGAACUGGGCACUGCCCAAUUGGCUCCUUCGAACUUAAGGUUGGUAUUUGUUCUUAGGAUAAUCUGGUUUUUAUCAUUUCCCCAUAUUGUCUCAUUGUUAACUUGCUGCAAAGUUUGGUUUGCCAUAUCAUUUGCUAGAUUUUGGCAACCAAUUAUGUAGAACAUUUUUGCAUCAAGGGCCCAUGAUUUUAUCUUUUCUGUGUCUUCCAUCGAACUAUAAGCAAGAGUAAUUUUGUUCGUUUUAUCUAUUUUUUUUCUCCCUUGCCAAACAUGAAACAUAUGAAACUAGUUCAUAUCGAAAUUUCCUAUUGUUCAGAGCUUUUCCUACGAAAUAAGCAAAGAGUAAUUAUGGCCAAUAAUCUCACCAAAACCAUGUGCCUGCAUUUUGUGUAUUAUGAAAUGAGAAGAAUGGCAAUGCUCACAUUUUUCAGUGAGGAAUAGGAUGUCACCAGAGUGGUUUUACAUUUGCCUAAAAAUAUUCAAUACACAAAGCCUACAACAUCAUAAAUCACCGUUCACAUUCUUGUUUUGUCUUUUUCAGGGUAAAUUUGGUCCAAAUUUGGAGCUAGAAGUACCAUUUUUUUUUGGUCUUUCUUCCCUUCUAAAUGGUUGUCAUGCUUAGUGCCCGUCUUCCCACCAUUAAUUAUGCUCUUCCUUCAGGUUACUGUUAUCUCAGAACCUUAGCAGCCCUAUUAUAUUCUUCAUUAUCUCAUCUCAAGUUUGUCAUUUUAUGAACUUGAUUUCGUUUACAAUUUUCAGGUAGAGAUUGUAAGUACACAGGUCAAGCAGUGGUAAACUAUCUCCACCUCAAUUAAUAUCCUUUGUUUUUAAUGUAUAUAUUUCAAAUAUUUCUUUAUUCAUACCGAAUCAGUGAUUGAUACUACAUCUGCCGUCGUUGGAUUUAUUACAUUGCGGAACAGUAAGUUUUAUCUCUGGAACGAAAACUAUAUUUAUAUGAUUUAUGAGUUCAACUUUGUUACCCGACAACCCAUCCAUUGUUUCAGUUUGCUCAAUGAUCUUGAUUUUGUUGGCCCUUUUUUGAGUAAUUUGCGUAUCUGUUUCAAUUGAAAUCCACCCAUCAUGUUAGCUAUGAAGUAUCAGUUUGCUCAGUGAAUUUGAUUUUGUCGUUCUUUUGAGCAUUUGGCUACUGUGUGUUGCAUCAACAGAUCAUUACACCUACUGGACCUAGAACUAGUAGGUUCUCAUUCUGAUUAAAUGUGAUAUUGAUUCUGGGCAGAGAGCAUUCCCUAUACGAAUAAUAUCAGUAGGGAAAAAGAGAUCACAAGGUGUACAACUCGUAGUGGAUGAGUACAUUGAAAAGCUUAAGCUCUACUGUAGUGUUGAAGAUGCUCACAUACGGAACAAUCCUAAAAAUGCACGGUACUCUCAUCUUUUUUCAUCUAAAUCAUCACAAUCUUUGUAGUUAAUGUGAAUAUAUAUAUAUAUAUAUAUAUCUUUAUCUUGGAUAUGCAUAGACCUCUUUCCUGCAAACUGGACAUUAAUAAUGUGAGAAAGUUCACCCAAAAAAAAAAAAAAAAAAACCAAAAUUGUGAGAAAAUUAUUGACAUUGGACGCAUGGAGGAAACAUUCGUAUUGUGGUUUCAUCAGAUCAUUUCUUUUUGUAGAGCUUAUAUUAGUUUUCUUGUACAUUGUAGUGAUUGGAGAGCUCAGGUUGAUCAUGAAGACAGUGCUGUUAUGGAUCUUAUCACGUCUGACGAUUGGGUACAGUCUGAGCAUCAUAUGGACUCAAUCUUAAUUGGAUGAAUAACUUCUCGCAAUAGUAGGAGAAUUAGUCUUGCCUUUACAUAAAAAAAUUUGCUCUGGAUACCUUUUCUUUGUAAUGUUCUGCUAUUACCCUUGAUCUGCUCAUCUACCGAGCCUGAACCGACUCAAUCUCUACUACCCUUUCAGCACAUGUUUUUAAAUGCCCUCGUCAGGCUUGAUUUUUCUUACAUAUAGGAUUUCCAUGAAAUAAAAGAGGUUCCGAUUCUUAUGGAUUUAACCAUUAUUAUCAUGCUGAAGGCUAAAUUUCUUUUAUUCUAAAUCCAUUGUAGAAAUGACUUCCUUUCUCAGAUGCUCUGGAAAGGGAAAGUGGUGCCAUUCCAUUUUGGUGGAAUUCAUCAAAGCUGUUAUAAACUAUAUGCUAAAAGGGUUAUACUUGUUUCUACAUUGUCACUUUGUAAUCUUGUGCUCAUAGGUUGUGCUGUUGGAUGAGCGUGGGAAAGACAUAGGGUCCGAGCAGAUGGCUGAGUUGGUGGGGGAUGCUGGAAAUACAGUAUGAAUGACCUCUCGUUUUAGUGAUUUUCAAGAAUGAUAGUGUGCAUGCUUGAAAUUCAUCCAUUCUUAAUAUAUGUUGUUUGUAUGUAUGUUGAGCUGGCAGAGGAAAGUUAAGCACGAAAAUUCAAGAACUUUUUACCAAUAACACUAUUGUUCCUUUGUCUGUAGGGAGCUUCAAGACUAUCAUUCUGCAUUGGUGGACCGUAUGGUCAUGGAAAACGAUUGCGAGAGCGUGCUGAUGUUUCUGUCAAGCUGUCUUCUAUGGUAUUAAACCAUCAAAUUGCAAUAGUUGUGCUCGUAGAACAACUCUAUAGGUAGGAGUACGUUGAUCUGCUGACUUCUAAAUCAUGCGGUUCCCAAUUACUGAAAUGCUGACUUCUGAAAAGUAUUCAAGGAAAUCAUUUCCAGCUUAAAGCAAAUAUUAAGGAUAAAUUAUAUUAAAUAAGUUAAGGAAUGCUUGAAUUUUAAAUAAGAUAAUGUCAGAUCACGCUGAAUGAGUAGAUAAUCUAUGUUUAUCAAUUUACUUCAGGUCGUGGACUAUUCUGAAAGGACAGAACUAUCAUCGUUAGCCUUUCGUUUCCUGUUCUGAACAAUGCUAACAGGUAUUCCCGUUCUUCAUUCCAGAUGAUUACCCUGUCUGCCUUGCUUGAGUUAAUUUUGAGUGACUUGGUUCAACUGAUGUAGGGCAUCGGCAACAUAUACAUCAGAGUAAGAGUAACACACUGGACUGACAGGGUUGCUGGUGGCUUAAACGUGUAUUUGGGUUUGUGGAACUAGAUUGUUCUAUAGUUCUGAAAUUCAUACAUUAUUUUUCUUACUCUCAGUAAUGUAGUGGAUUAAACCUCAAUGAGAAAGAAAUUACAGGUAUUAAAGGAGUUUCAUGAUAGAUCGUUUCUGUGAACCUUUAGCCUCACAAUGGCAAAGUUUUCUAUUUUAAUCCAACACAUCACUAGUGAUCAGUCAUGUUCAAAUUAUAGGAAACAGAGUGUAUUAUACGAAUCUUGAUACCUUGAUUUAUUAUUAGUUUUUUUGUUAGAUAUGCUUUAAUUUUUAUCAAAAUCGUUUACAAUUUUUUCACAACGGUAAAAUUUGGAUAAUAAAAGGGUGGAAAUAGCAGGUCUUUGUUCAACUCUAUUUAUUUAACCAAAAAAAUAAGGUUUUGACAACAAUAAAGAUGAAACUACCGCCAAUAAUAACGGACCUAACGGUAGGUUUGAAGGCAAAUCAGUGUCCUUCCCUCCACUGGCUUACAAACCGCCACGUUACAAAUUCAAACUCUCUGCCACGUGUCAGCAACCCAACAGCCUAAAACUCUCUCUCUCUCUUUCCCUCGAUCUCACAACAUGGCAUGGCUGUUCUUCACUCCUCACUCGCUCCCUACCGUCUGAAAAAGCUGAUCAUCCUCCCAUUCCCAUAUCCAAAACCCACAAUUUCAACCAAAAGACUCAAUCUUUUCCAAGCAAUGAGUUCCAGCUCCAAAUCCCAAUCCUCUGCCCCGGUCUACAAGGUUCCGGGUUUGGACCCGGAGGAUAUGGACCGGGUUGCGGACCAAACCUUUCAGAGGUACUCGGCCUCCCCUGUCAAGAGAAACGGCAAAGGUGUGGCUGUCGUUUGGUUCAGAAACGACCUCAGAGUGCUGGACAAUGAGGCUCUUUACAAGGCUUGGAUUUCGUCCCAGGAGGUUUUGGGUGUGUAUUGCGUUGAUCCCAGGCUUUUUGGCUCUACCCAUUACUUUGGUUUUCCCAAAACUGGAGGUACCAAUUUUAUUUUAUUAAAAGAAUUUCAAAUUUUUUAUCCUCCUAGUUGAAGUUUUUGGACUUUUGGCUUGUUUUCUAUUACCUUGGGCUGUGAAAUGUUUGGAAUUUUGUUCUCAUUUUGGCUUGUGCUGCUGUGUUUAAAAUCUCCUUGUAACAUAGAAUGAUGCAGAAUUGAAAUGUCAUACAAUUUUGUUGUUUGGCAGCGUUGAGAGCGCAAUUUCUCAUUGAGUGCUUGGCUGACUUGAAGAAAAAUUUAAUGAAGCGGGGUCUUAACCUGCUCAUUCAACAUGGGAAGCCUGAGGAGAUUCUCCCUUCUCUUGCAGAGGUUUUUGGAGCCCACACAGUUAAGUGAUUUCCACACUAUUUGAUUGGUAGAAUGAGUUUGUUAUGUUCUUUUCAACUUAUUAAAGCAGCAGAAUGUUGGUAUGUAAUCUAAUCUACAUAGGUAUAUGCCCAAAAAGAAACUUGCAGUGAGGAGCUAAAUGUUGAAAGAUUGGUCAGAAAAGGUCUGCAACGAGUGGUUUUACCAUUGUCUUCAGCGCAAUCCUCUGGGCCUAGUUCUACAAACAAUCCUAAGCUACAACUUUUAUGGGGUACCACUAUGUACCACAUAGAUGACCUCCCAUUCGACACCCUCAGCUUACCGGAUGUGUAUACGCAGUUUCGUAAGGCAUGUAGAUUUCUUUCAAGUUCAUUUUACUUCAAAUCUAUAUAACUGGGGGAGGUUUUCUCUGUUAGCUGUGUUUAUUGAUGAUACCAAAAACUUGCAGUCAAUUGAAGCGAAAUGCACAGUUCGUGGCUGCAUCAAACUUCCAGCAUUUCUUGGGCCACCACCCAGCAUUGGGGACUGGGGAUGUGUUCCUUCAUUAGAUCAGUUCGGACUUCAAUCUCCAAAUGUAGGUUAUUAUAUCAUACAUACGAGUAUACAGGCACAUAUUUCAUACUUUGUCUAUUAAGAAAUUUAAGAAGUUCCUUUUACAUACUCUGGAUGCAGGAAAGUAAAGGAAUGAAGUUUGUGGGGGGUGAAAGUGCAGCCUUGGGCAGAGUAAACGAGUAUUUCUGGAAGAAGGCAAGAGGAAUCUUUAUGUUAUAUAUGUGUGUGUGUAUAUAUAUAUAUAUUGUGAUGUUGAAAAUGUCCAAUAGAGGAAAAUGGCUUUUUAUUUGAACACAUUUUAUAAUAUUCAAAGGAACAGUGUUAAUAGAGUAAUUUAGUUAUCUGACUUAUUCUCAUGUGUUUCAUGUGUAGGAUUUUUUAAGGAUAUAUAAACACACCAGAAAUGGGAUGUUAGGACCUGAUUAUUCGACAAAAUUUUCUCCAUGGCUUGCUUCAGGAAGCCUUUCUCCUCGUUUCAUUGGUGAAGAGGUUGAAAUUCUUGGUUAUUAUGUUCCUUUCUAUAUAUGACUACAUGACAUCGAGAAAACUGACACUAAUUUUGGCAAUUGAAUCCUUAAGGUAAAGAGGUAUGAAAAAGAAAGGCAAGCAAAUGAUUCAACAUACUGGUAAUUCUCUCUCUCUCUCUCUCAGUUGCAUGAACUAGAAUGAAACUUUUGGAGGACAAAAUACUGUCAAUAUAUAAUUUCUUUGUUGGAACAAAGGUGAUAUAGAUCCCCCAGGUAACACAACAGAAACCAUUCUUCAAGUAGUGUUGAACUUGUAUUUUGUCUUUUCCGUUUAUCUAUGUUCAACACAACAGGGUGUCGUUCGAAUUGAUAUGGAGGGAUUACUUCAGGUUUCUAUCAGCAAAAUAUGGGAAUUCCCUUUUCCAUUUAGGUAAUUUAGUUGAUUGCUUUAAUACAAUCAUGUCAAAGUAUUUAAAAAAAGGCCUAAGAAAAGAAGUAAAAUUAUGUUAACUAAACAGUUCGUUGCUGCGCAGCACAUGCGAGCCACUUAGUUUAACAUAUCAUUGUAGAGAUAUCAAUUCUCUCUACUUCUCUUUCUUAGCAGUCAUGUCUUUUUUUGGCCUUUUUGAAGGUGGCCCAAGAAAUGUGGAGCAUAGAUGGAGCCAAGACAAGAUUUUAUUUGAAUCCUGGAGAGAUGGUCGUACAGGGUACAUUGCUUUGCACAAGAGCUAGAUGAUGAAUAUUAUAUCUCCAUAAUCUUUAUGAAAAACAAAACGGAAAAUCUCUCUCUCUCUCUCUCUCUCUCUCUCUCUCUCUCUCUCAAUAUUAGUGUUUUGUAAUUGCUCUGCUAAUGAUAUACAGAGCUUGUUAAACCUCUAGGUACCCUCUAAUAGACGCCAACAUGAAAGAGCUAUCAACCACGGGAUUCAUGUCGAAUCGGGGAAGGCAGGUAAUUCCAAAGUAAACUGUCACUAUGAAUGGUAUAUGGUAUAUUUAUGCAUUGCUACCAUAAAACUUCUUGUUUUAACCUUUAAUGUUAUUAUUCUGGGAAAAUUGGGCAAAGUCUUGAAAAUAAUCAAUACUUCAUUUAUUAUUCUACAGAUUGUAUGUUCCUUUCUAGUUCGUGAUAUGGGUAUUGACUGGCGAAUGGGAGCUGAAUGGUUUGAGACUUGCCUUCUGGAUUAUGACCCUUGUUCCAAUUAUGGGAAUUGGACCUAUGGAGCAGGUGGUUUCAAAUUCAUCAUUUUAUUUACUUCCAUGCAUGCAUGUUUCUGUUAAAAGUAUUGGCAUGCCUCUCUCUUAACUUUCUGUGUUGGGUAAACACUCCUGGCAGAGGAUGAUCAUAAAAUUAUAAAGAACCAAGGUCUCCUUUAUAAUUGUAGCCACAUGCUUUAGGAUUGUAAUUACUUAACUAUUUUGGUUUAAUACUAAUCAACAUUUUAUCAUUUGUUCAUCCUGUUAAGGAGUUGGAAAUGACCCCAGAGAAGAUCGUUACUUCAGUAUUCCGAAACAAGUGAGUACACAAUACGUUGCCUUGUUAUAUUUUCUUAAUAUGAGACCUGAUUUCGAAUGACAGGAGUGCAGAGUUUUUCACAAAUUUUUCGAUGAAUUAUGUUUGGAGCUACAACAGCUUUAUAAACACUUUCUGUACCUAAGAUGCUCUUAUAUUUUUUCAGGCGCGGACAUAUGACCCCGAAGGCGAGUAUGUUGCAUAUUGGCUGCCUCAACUAGAAUCACUUACAAAAGAAGAAAGAAACUUUCCUGGAAGGGCAUAUAUGAAGCAGGUUGUGCCUCUCAAGUUUGGAAAUACCAGUAGGCACCAAAACCAGGACAAGGCCUUGGCUGCUAGAGGCACCAAUUUUGGAGGAAGACAAACAAAAGGUCAAAGGAGAUAAAUCUGGGUUGAAACUUGAAAGGAUUUUACUAUACAUCUUUAUCCUUCUCAAAGUAUGUGCUGAAAAUGAGAUGCAAAUAUUUUGUUACUAUUAACCUUCAAAUGUGUAUGCCCCCACUUUUCACUUGCCACCGUUGUUUGUUUAACUUGAUUUCAUUCGGACCUAAUUCGAAACUUUCAUUGACCUAAUUAGGAAUUUAAACUUGUUUGAGUGGCCGGAAGAAAACAUGAUUAGUCAGAAUCAUAGAUUAAGAAAUUAACUUGAUCACAUCUGGGUUAAUUUUAUGUAAUCUGAGUUCAAGUUAGAGUGGUUCAAAUUCGUAGUUCGAUUUUGAACUAGGUUUAAUGAUCCGAUGUAAAUUGUAAUCAUUGUUAAUAAUCCGAAUCUAUACUAGAUGUGAUGUAGUGGUACUCUUUUUUCUUGACCAGAUUUUCCUCCAUUUGGGGGUUUUUAAAGGCAAGGUUUUAAUGAAGCCACACUUGUUACAUUACUAAAGUCCAGACUUCUUUUUGUACUCUAAUAUUAUUGUUUCAAUGAAGUUAUCUCACUUUGAUUAUUUAUUAAAAAAAAAAAAAAAAAACCCAAAUCUAUAGCCUAACCCAACUUUAUAUAUGAUUUCGAUGUAAAGGCUUAUAACUAUUUGAUAAAAAGAAAAAAAAAACUUACUAUAGUGGGUAGAAUAUUAAGAUAGCUUAAUAUAUAUAUAUAUAUAUAGCAAAAGGUAGAGAAUGGUAAAACAUUCAAAAUACCAGAAAAUAUCAUUGGUUAAUGCAAGCAUUAAGAAUUGAAAUUAUUAAUUAAAUGAGAAUAAUAUAAUAAAUUCACACUUUUUCAUAUUAAAAAAAUUAAAAUUAAAAGAAAAAUCAAAUAAUUAAUCAUAUUUUUAUGAAACACAACUAUCCUUAUCUCUUUAAUUAUAUAAUAAAUUUAAAUUUUUUUAAAAAAAAGCCUCUCGCAGACGCAUGUGAAGAGGCUAGUAUUACAUUUAUUCAAAAAGAAGAGAGAUAAUAAGAAGCUGGAUUUGGGCCCGACUUCCGAGGCUCAACCCGAUUUGACCCAAAUUACCCUCCGACCCGCCCCUACCUGUGUGCAUUCGGGUUCUUCAAUCUUCAACAGCACAUGAACCAUUUGGAUCUUCCAAAAACUCGCGCCGUCCGGGCUAACCUCGCUCAGGAGAAGACUAAUCCGUACAAAAACCAGUCACAAACACUUAGUUACGGAGUCAAGGAAGAAGAAGAAGAAGAAGAUAGAAGAAAGGGGCUUCUUCUUCUUUUUCAAAAACUUUCAAUUUCUUCACAGAAAGCUCCAAUGGCAGUGAGUUCAAUCCCAUAAAUUGUCAUUUCACAUUUGUUUAUAUCGUCGAUUGUUCAUCUGUUUGUUUGUUUGGGUUUUUACAGCUCGUAAUCGCAUGUGGAGAAUCGUCGCCGUCCCACAUUACCCUUCUGAGAUGUUUGAAUCGAACCCUCGACUCUAUCAAGCACAACAUUGCUCGCAUCUUUGCUAACAUUUUGUGCUGCCAAGCUAACUCUGAUGAAAGCUCCUGGUAAAUUUUAAUUUUCUAGUCUUACACUUUACUCUUAGUCUGUUGUUUGUUUGCCGAGAAAAACUGCUAGAAAAGAUGAAGAAAAGGCCUAUACAUACUGAUGCAGAUGAUAUUAUUGCUUGUCAUUUUUAGUCUUAUUAUUAAUCUGCUGUUUGUAUCAGUGAAAAUGAGUAAAAAAAGAGGAAAAAGAAAGCUAAAGAAUUAAUACAGAGGACAUUAUUUAUUGCUAGAAACCUCGUAGUGCUCUCAAAUUUCAGCACAUUUGCCUUUUUGUAAGGAAAAAAAGAAGAAGAAGAAGAAGAAGAAGAAGCUAAUAUGCAUUAUCUGCUUUGUAAUAUUCAUAUGCAGGACUUGUCGGGGUAAGGAUCUACUUCCAUCCACUUUUGAGGAUUUCAGGAAAAAAUGGGACGAGAAUUACCAUGUGAGUGCUCAAAAUUGGUUUUCAAAGAAGAAGAAUUCCCGUGGUAAACAAAAUCCACACGCAGUUUGCAAUGUGUUGGAUGCAAUGUUGAGGGAUAGUUUGGAACGUCUCAAAACGAUGAGGUCAGCUUUCAGUCUAUGUACUCUUAGGAUCAAACUCAAAAUCUUAUUUGAUGGAUAGGGGAAAUGCUCAAAUACAGAUACAUAUUUCAUAGUUCAUAACAAGCUUUUGUUAAUUAUGUGAAAAUCUGCAGGGAAGGCAUAUCUAUGGCAAAUAUAGGCUUUUUGGAUUGCACUUUGAAAGCUAAUUACACAGAUUGCAUGGCCAUCAUAAAGGUUUUAUGUAUAGAUGGUAAGUUGGGAACAGCUUUUUGGCUUCGGAGAAAACUGAUAAAGAAAGGCAUUGUUCCUGAUGUCUUGACACACAAUUAUCUAUUAAAUGGACUGUGUAAAACUGGUGACUUGGAGAAGGCAGAUUGGCUUAUUAGAGAGAUGUUAGAAAAUGGCCCCUCUCCCAACUGUGCCACAUACAACACUUUUAUUAAGGGUUAUUGCCGCCUUAAUGAAGUGGAUAAAGCUCUUUGUCUUUUAUCCACGAUGGGUAACAGUGGUAUUAGGCCUAAUAGAAUCACUUGCAACAUAAUUGUACAUGCAUUGUGCAAGAAAGGCCUUUUGGAGAAUGCUAAUAAGCUUCUAGAAGACAUAUUAGAUGAUGAUAAUGACAAGACAACAUCAGAUCUAGUCAUCUCAACUACACUUAUGGAUGGUUAUGUUAAAAAUGGAAAUAUGGUUCAGGCACUUAGUCUUUGGCAUGACAUGGUCCAAAUGAAUACCCAAGUAGAUGCCGUUUCUUAUAAUGUUCUCAUUCAUGGAUUUUGUCUGAGUCAACACAUGGACCUUGCUUAUGGAUACCUUUGUGAAAUGAUCAAAAGAGGAAUACUUCCUAGUGUUUUUACUUUUAAUAUAAUUUUAAGUGGUCUUUGCAAAGGAGGAAAGUUAGAGGAGGCUUGUUACGUCCAUGGACUUAUGUCAAGAAUGGGAGUUACUCCCAAUCAAAUUUCAUACAAAAUACUUGUUCGGGGCCUAUGCAGUAAAGGAGAUGUUGUCAGAGCCAAUGAGUUUCUUCUUCAUAUGCAAGAGAAGUCAGUGGUGCCUGAGAGUCUAAUAUGGAAUACUGUCAUUGAUUGUCAUGGAAGAUAUGGGGAUCUUACUACUGCAUUCUCUGUUAAGGAUCAGAUGCUCGCUUUUGGUGUUAAACCAAAUGUGUAUACUUACAAUGCAUUGAUCCACGCCCAAGUGAAAGGAGGAAAUAUUACUCGUGCUCUUUCUCAUAAAAAGGAAAUGCUUCUGUCUGGUCUUUUUCCUAAUGUGGUCACUUAUAAUUUGUUGAUAGGUGCUGCUUGUAACUUAGGCGACAUUCUUUUCGCAGUGCAGUUAUAUCGUGAAAUGCUGAUAACAGGACUUGAUCCAGAUAUAAUUACUUACACUGAACUAAUCAGAGGGUACUGCAUGAUAGGUAACAUGAAGAAGGCAGAAGAGCUUUUUGAAAAUAUACAGGCAUCUGGUUUACCUAUCGAUCAUGUUCCAUUUAAGGUACUUGUCAAGCAGUACUGCAAAAUUAAGGAGCCUGACAUGGCAUUUGGCAUUUACCAGAAGUGGCUGACGAGGGGGAACUGAGUUAUCCUCUUCUAUAAACUUUGACAUGCAUACUGCAACAUUGUCAUCUUGGCAUGCAAUUCAAAAUUCUUGGAUCUAAAUUCAACAGAAUCCCUUCUGACAGUGGCCGUUUUCUACUUGUGGCAAAUAGGAAUCUUUCAUAUGUUUUUCCUGAAGGUAUGUGUUUCCACAAAUGUUCCAUCACACUUUGAGUGAUACAUUUAUUUUUAGGUAUUUGUGUUAUUAAUUUAGACUUUUUGGUGAUUCUGGUCAUCCAUGGAAAGCUGGACAGAGAAGCUUCUUUGUCUACUUCUAAAGUUCUACUAGACUACUAACAUACAAAGAUGCUCGUCUGGUUUUGUGUUAUGUUAAAACUUGAUAACUUAUAUUAGGAUGGAUAAAAAAAGGUCUUGGUCAAGUCUAAUUCGUGUCAGCUUAGGGCGUCAAGUUUUUGCGUUCAUAUUUUUGUGAGUGAUAUGGAACACUGACUGUUUUGUGCAAAAAUCUUACAGGAUCAAGUGGUUGACAGGUGGCUUAUAGAAUUGACUCUUUUUCUUGAUGGUCGUGGUCCUAAAACUGGGACCAAAUCUGAUAAUUCCUUUCACACGGAAACAGGAUGCUUUAAUAUAUAUUUGUGAAGAUCGGAUGGGCCCAAACAUCCCACAAUUUGGACCAUCAUUAUAAGGAAGAUGUCCUGAUGCUAGGGAGUAUAUUCAGCAGGACUUUGGUCAGAAUGUUUCACCUAUAGUUGUUCAGGUUGGUAUAUUCAGCUGUUUCCUACCCACUUAUAUAUACUUGAAACAUGAGUUUCAGAAUUAUGAUUCAUGAAUUAUUCACUCUAUGGAGUCACAUUCUAACACAUCUUGAGAAUUUGUACAUUUCUAUGAGGUUUCUUUUUGUGUUGAAAAUUUAUAGAUAACAUGACGGGACCUGGACGUGUAAUGAGAACAAAAUCCUUCUUUUGAAUGCUUUACUCUCUCGUGUGCAGGUGUUUAUACCACAUAUACAGCAGAGAUGGAUACAGGAUUGUUUGCCUCUGAGGUUUCAUGUUCUAUUCACCAUGUUUUGACACCAUAUUAUUCGUCCAGUUUGGGAGGAUACAAUAGAUUCUAGGUUCUGGUUUACCUUUCAAAGAAGAAAUCCGCAGGUUGUGAAAUUGACCUGGAAGUAUUGGUUUUUUGUUUUGAAUUUUUCAUUAUUUAUAGUAAAAAUGUUACAUAUAGAUUACAAGGGAAGGGACCAUAGAAGCCGAGAAUAGCCUUAUAAAAACAAACCGAGAAUAGCAAUGGGUAUUGGAAUUUUUGUCUCUUUUUUUGGGGUGCAUAAUUCUGUAAUGUUAUUAUAGAAUUUUGUGUAAAACCAAGAGGUGAUGUAAUAAUUGGUGAUCAGAUUGGUCUCAAAUGGAAUUCAUGAGGUUGCUCCCAUGAUAGUAAAACUAUUAUUUAUUAUAAUAAGAGUUGGAGAGUUGAAACUGAUUAGGCAAAGCAUUAUUUUGUUCCUUGGUGAACCAUUAACAAUGGGCUUUGGUAGCUACGAGAGGAAAAGAAUACAAGGAAAUGGGAAAGAGGGAAAGGGAGACGGCAACCCCCUUGUUCUAAGCUUUCAGUCGUCCCAGAAUUGAAAUGCUUUCUUUUGGGAUCGAUUUCCUGGCUUCUAAGUUUUAGAGUAGGUCUCAAAAGUAAAGAUUCUUUCCUUGUCCUUCCUAAAUGUGGCACCAAGAAAGGAAAAAGAUGAACAACUCAAUUCCAGUCCACCAAUACAAUGGGUCCCACACUCUAUUAGAGAGUUGGUACACAAGUUGGUAUUUAAAGUUGGUCUCCCUAACAUUUUCCUUUGUAAUAACCAAAAGUACUUCUCAAAGCUUUCGGUAGAAAAAUUUCAAUGUGCUUUUAGGCCAUAAAACCACUUUUUAGAGAAGCACUUGGUAUGUGGAUUUUUAUGAGAUACUUCCAUGUACUUUUUCAGAAAAGCAUUUAAAAUUUUAACACAAAUUUUGAAGUGCUUACUAACAAAAAGUGAAUCAUAUAGAAGCAGUUUCAAACGAGUAGGUAGAUAGUUAGAAAAUGAUUUGGAUAGAGAAAUUAGUUAUAACUAAACCAUCCAAAUGGCCCUAAAACCCAACUGCUGCUUCAUUUCUUACUAAAUUAAGCCUACAACCCAUUUCAAUUAAGAAAAGAUUGAAUUUCAUUUGCAUCUUCAAAACUUUUUAACAAAAACUGUUCACAUUUUAAAAGAAAAAAAUAAAAAUGGGUUGAGAAACUGAAUUAUAUAUAAUGAAGUAAUGAAAAGGGUCGUUGAGUAAAAAAAGAGCAAUUAGACUUUUUGGCGGGGAGACUCUAAUAGGCCAGCGCGGUGUGGAGAGCUGGCGUUGGGGUCGGUCCUGCGCUCCAAAGAAGAGGGUCUGUGGUCCGGUGUGGGCCCCACUCACCGUGUGAUCCGGCCCCGCGUUGGAAGCCUUGCGGUGCGUCUAAUUGAAUAUUUGCGUGUAAAAAAAAUAAAACCAAAAAUAAAGAAGGAAGAAAGAAAACGAGAAAAAAAGCAAAGCCCCAUUUUUGAAGAGGACGCCCUUUCUUUCCUUCAUCCUUUUUCCCUCGAUACUCUCACUCCAUCGCCGAUACUCUCUCUUCUCUCUCCAUCAUCGAUCAAAGCUCUGCGUUUGCGUUGCCCUCACGGACUUCUCUUCCUUGUCGACUUUCAUCAUUACUUUCCCUCGCUUUCUCCGCCUCCAAGAUCUGAAAAGCCAAGGUUGGUUUCUGCUUUCAAGGUUCUCUCUCCCACAAUUUUUCGUAAUUUUCCAGAUCUGAUUUUGAUUGUUUAUUCAUCUCUGCAUAUUGCUUUUGCUUAUUGAUGAUUGAUUUGCUAUUCACUUUCAAUUCAAAAGAGCAAUUUGAAAGGGAAUAAUAAUGGCGGACGACAAAGGCGUCGUCGGAGAAGCCGACAAGAAAGACGCGGCAACUGUUCCUGAGGUGGUUGCGAAGAAGAAGCGCAAGGGACUUUUCUCCAGAAUGUUCAGUGGGAUCUUCCGAUUACACGGCGAUGACUUCGAGAAGCGGCUCAAGUACAUUUCCAAAGAAGAAGCCACUGUCCUUGCUAGAAUGCAGAGGAGGUCCAUAACGUGGAGGCGCAUGAGCAGACAUCUCAUUCUCUUCUCUGUCUUAUUUGAGGUAUUGGAAUGUCAUUCAUAGGACCCAUCAAUUAGGACUUUGUUGCAGCAACUGGUUUUUUUUUUGGCUGAUUAAGAAUUCUGAACUUUUAUGGCAAUACUAUCCAGAAAUUGCACCAUACUCGUCGUCAUAUUUAUUGGCAUAUAGAGUUUGAACGAGUUGGGCAAGUGAAAUAUUAGAAGGGAAUGAUAAGUGUUUGCAUACUUUUGUCAUUUUCAGAUUAUUGCAAUUGCUUAUGCUAUAAUAUCAACGAGAGCAACAAAUUUAGAUUGGAAGAUGAGGACAUUUCGAAUUCUUCCGAUGUUUCUUCUGCCUGCUUUAUCUUUUCUUGCUUAUUCAGCAUUUGUGACCUUCACAAGAAUGCGUGAGUAUCUUAAACUUUGCAACUUCCUUAAUUUUUGAUGUUCAUGUGACGAUUCUAGUUAUUUUAUUAAUAUCUGGGACUUAUUUUGCAAAAGGUAUCUGGUUCCAUGGUUGUCAUAGGGUCUUGGGUUGGGCUUGCUAGGAAGCAUUUUGGCUUAUUGGUUCAUCAUUCUGUGGUUUACUUCUUACUUUGUUUAUUGAAUUUGUUUGAGCUUCAUAAUACAUUCUUUGUGCAUGGGGUGUGUAGCUUCUCCGCGUAUGACAUUUGGAGUAAGAAAGGUCCCUUCACACAGGCCCAUCACACAUUAAAUUGUUGGUCAUUUGUUAGACAAUUUUUGUUGAAAGUCACUGAGGACCUGUCCUUUAGACAUUGUUCCUCACAGGGGGACUUUUCGUGCUGACUGGUAUUUUAAUUGUGUGCCACUUUCCAUGCAAGAGGAAGUUCUUUUUAAAUUUAUUAGUUGUGAGUUUGAACUGUUGGAAAAUAAGCGUUAUGAAAUUUGGGAAUUUUCUUGGGAAUCGUUUACGAAAUUCGCAAAUCUUUGAACUGGAAUUGGGCACGGUACUGGUGGGUGGCUAGUUCAUAAAAGAUACCUGAUCUACAAUGUCUGAAGUUCAAUACCGUUUUCAAUAUGUACACAUAUGGUACAUAUCAUGCAUGUUUCUUUGAGCAAAAUUCUCUUUCCAGGCUGUACCUAUUUUAAUUGUCUUGACGUGUUAAUGUUUGAUUUAUGUAUGCUUUGAGUUUAUGCUUAACAGCUUCCAUGCAUACCUGUAUCCUAGGAAGCACAAACUGAAACAUCAGGCAUGUUUUUUUAGUUGUCUAACACCAUGUCGGUGCUGUAAUGGAUCAUUGGAAGAAAGCUAGAAAAGUAGACCUAUGACGUUUCAUUAGUUCAUUGCUGUUGUUAAAAAUGUUUGUUGAAUAAUUUGGAUGAUUGGUUGUAUGAACCCAUUCUUUUUGUAUGAAUCAAGUUUUCCAAUCUAAUGCGGCAACUUAGUGACCAUUACUUGUAUAAAGUUGAUGUGUGCAUGUAUUAGAAAUCUGAUAUCUCAACCUUUCAAUGUAUUAGGUGAUCGCAAGGACGCCAAAACCCUGGAAAGGCUUCGGGCUGAAAGGCAAGCAAAAAUUGAUGAACUAAAAGAGAGGACAAAUUAUUACACUACUCAACAGCUUAUUCAGGUAAUUAUUAGAAGCAAGUUUUGUUGUUAUAUUGCAUUUGUUAUCUGUCUUUAUGCCUCAUUAUUGAAUUCUCUUUGGUAUUCUUUGUUAGCUUGUUGAACUUUUAUCAGGUGAAUGGGGUAGCUGUUGAUGCCUUUUGCCCCUUCAUCUCAUUUGACUGUGUUAAUGGUUGUAUAGAGUUUCUUAAAUGAUAUAGACAAACACUGUUUGGAAGAAUUCCAGGAGGUCAUGUAAAGUGGCCUUAAGAAACCAUUCAUUUAGAUUGAUUGCAAAUUCGCAAUAGUCAUAUGGCAUACUUAUUUCUAUUGUAGUUGGCUGAAUCAGUUUUUGCUUCUUUGAGAGAACAUCUCUUCAAAAAAAGCACUGUAAUGAACAAGACUCCUGUGCCCUUUAUGCUGGGUUUUAUUUUAUUUUAUUUAUUUAUGUUUUUAGGGGAACUCUGCAAUGGUUUGUGUUUGAGUAAUGGUAUAUGUGAAGAUGUACCUUGCUUGUCCCCCUCUGUUUUCUUGGUUUGAAUUUAAGUUAUAUUCUUUUAUGCAGAGAUAUGAUCCUGACCCAGCAGCAAAGGCAGCUGCUGCAACUGUCCUAGCAUCUAAGUUGGGUACAGAUUCAGGUCUGAAAUUCUACGUGGGAGAUGAAUCUGAGAUUAAUGCCUCAACAGGGAAAAGCAAUGAUGUUGAACUUGUCCAUUCUGGUGAACUUCGAAACCGUAAACCAGUACACACCAGAUCUAAUAGUACAGGGAGUGUCCCAUUGACUAUUCCUGAAGAGGAGGCACCUCGUUCUGCAAGGUCUGACGGUCAUCAGGUUUCUGAGCAUAGUCAACUGAUUGUUAGUCAUCAUAGUCCUCAGGGAGCAUCUCCACAGGAUGGAGGAUGGAUUGCUCGGAUUGCAGCAUUACUUGUGGGUGAGGAUCCAACACAGUCUUAUGCACUCAUAUGUGGCAACUGUCAUAUGCACAAUGGUAGGUUAUCCGCAUCCUGAGUAGGCACUGUUGCUUUUUCAUGUUUUCAUAGAAGCAAGUGAAGGAAAGGCCUGAUUAUGGUGCACACUCAUGCACUUUCCUCACUACCAGUUGUUUUCUUUCUUUCUUGUGGUUGAAAUAAUGAUCUCAUACUUUUUUUGUCUCUAUGCAGGGCUUGCUAAGAAGGAGGAUUUCCCAUACAUCACCUAUUAUUGCCCGCACUGUCACGCCCUAAAUCAGCCAAAACAUUUGGAAGGGCGUGUUUCUGGUUCUAACACGCCUAUCACCCCUAGUUUGAGCUCUUUGAGAGCAGGGGUCAGCAGUGAGGCAACAAAGCACGCUGGUGACUCUUUGGAUGACAGUGUACUCACAAGUACCAGCCCUGUUAGAGCUGGUUCAGAGAUUGAGGAAGAAACCGAAAAGCCUGCGUCCGGCGAUACAGUUAGUUUAGAAAAACAUGAGUAGGGUUAAGAUGUUCCUUUCCUCAAUUAGGCCGUCUUUUCCCUUUGCUUGUAGGUAUGGGGUUUAUUUUCUGCUGGAUGAAUUUACGGGUUUGCCUAUAUGCGUGGUCGUGUACAAGAAUAUGUUGAGUUUCCUUGCUGAUAAACUUUUGGGGCUUUAUGUUCAUAGAAUACAUGGAUUGAUUGUAAUCUUGUACAUCUUGUGAGUUUUUCUUUUCUGGUUCAAUUGUUGCAGCUGGUCCAAAUACCUUUCCAGAUUUGGAAAGCUGAAACUUUACUGAUGUAGUGCAAAUGGUCCAAAAGGAGUCUUUGCUGCGGUCAUUUUUUAUUUUUUCAUAUUCUGAAUUGUAAUUUUUAUUUUUUUAUACAAGUGAGAAUCUAAACUAUUCUAAAUUAAUUUGAUUUACGUGGAGUUCUCAUACUUCUUUGUUCAAAAUAAUAAAGGAGAGGAGAAAAUAAAACAUUUUUAGCAAAUUUGGUUAGGAACGAAAAUGAUCGACGGGAUAUAUAUAAUAAGAGAAACCGUAUGAAAUUAGAUCCUCAAUAUUUCUUGGACGGGUUAUUCUUUUGUCGGGUCUUUAAUGGGUUAGGGGGGUGGAAUUUUUUUUUAAAUUUUUUAUAUAAGCAAUAAUUUAAACUAUCGGGAAUGUAGAGUUUUUCACACACACAAUUAAGAUGUUAUGAAGGUUCGAAUUUGAGGUCUGUAAUCUGCAAGUCAAAACUCUUUUUCACUGGACUAGAUCUCUUUGACAAACAUUAAACAUAAUUGAUUCAUUUUCUUAGUAAAAAAAUAUAGAGGUUUUUCCUUUUAACUACGUAGUCUCACCUCAUUUGUUACCCCCAAAAAAACUCUUACCUCAUUCCACUCAUUUGAUGACACUUGGGCUGAGGUGGAUGGUUAAUAAUAGAGCGGUAAUUUCAACUGAUGUGAGACUGUAAAAGUCGUCUCAGAUUCUGACUGGAUCUUGACCCACCCCCGUGCUCGACUCUCAUUCAAAAACCCCCAAAAAAAAAAAAAAAAAAAAAAAAAAAAGGAAAACCUUGUGUCCGUCUGUCUGUCUGUCUGUCUGUCCGGCUACUCCCUCUCCUCCCUGCGUGGCUCANNNNNNNNNNNNNNNNNNNNNNNNNNNNNNNNNNNNNNNNNNNNNNNNNNNNNNNNNNNNNNNNNNNNNNNNNNNNNNNNNNNNNNNNNNNNNNNNNNNNAUAAAUGAUGUCGCAAGGCGGCGCGGUCCCCAUUUUUAUUUUUAUUUAUUUUAUAAAAAUAAAUUAGGAAAAAAACAAACAAGACCAAGUUUUGUGUUACCAAAAUCGAAGCCAUUCCUCGCACGCUGACCUAAAAAAAACCCCAAAAUCAUAUAUUUUUAUUUUUAUUCCUCAAUUUCACACCAAAAGCUCGUCUCUUUCAUCUUCCUCCAAGCUUCAGCUCCAAAGGUCCAGCUUCCUGUUCCUCCUCUGCUCCUCAAACCUCAGAACCAGGUACCUCUUGAGCUAUUUCUCUUUUGAUCAUAUGUUUUUGUUUCUCUAAUUUUCUUUUGCUUUAACAUGCUUGGAUACUGUGAUUUGAUUACUUUUUUUUAUUGUUGGUUUCGAUCAGGUUGUUUUUGUCGUUCUUGUAGUUUCUAGGGUUUUUUUUUGUUUUUUCUUUCUGUUAAUUUCUUUUUGUUUGUUCCUUUUUAUUUCUGGAAACUGCUGCUUGAAGAUCAUUUUAUUUUCAUUUGCUUAUUAUGUAUUCGUGACUAGCUUUGAGAAUGCAUGAUGGAAGUCUUCGCAUCUGAAUUUUAUCAGAAUGCAAGCUUUCGGUUGUGUUGUGACAAACAAGGUACAAGGACAUGCUUUAUCUGAGAGUAUCAAAAACUGUAUUUCUCCAAAGAUUCCGAAAAUUAUAAAAAUAAAUAGACAUGAAGCCAUUAAAACUUAAAAAUUAGUUUUCUAAUACCUUUAAACCCAAUAUCCCACAGUAGUGAUAUGGAACGCAUUGGGCUAGUAUAUAAACUGCUUGUACACUUUGACUACAUCCUAUUGCAAAAAAGAUCAUUGUAAAAUGAUUUUAGAGAGUAUAGUUUGUGACUGUAAUUCUAGAUUAUAUAUAUAUAUAUAUCUCUCUCUCUCUCUGUGCACAUAUUCAUUGUAAAAUUUUGAAGAAUUCAUGUUUUGCAUUCAUGUCCAUUGCAGGGUUGGUCGGUGGUUAAAAUGAGCCGACCAAGUACACGCAGUAAAAAUAAAAGAAAUAGACAAGGGGAUAAUGUUGACACCACUUCUGAAAUAUUGAGGUAGAAAGUUUUUUUGGUUUAUGUUAAAGAAGUUAUUUCUGUUGCUUGAUGUGCACCUUUGUUAUGUGUUGGCUCACAUUAUGGUUGGUAUUGUGUAGGAAAAUACAUGCAACAGGUGAAGUAACAAAUGAGGAUAUAAAUACGCUAUAUAAAAUUUCAAAGCCAGUUUGUCAAGGUUGCCGUGUGAAUACUAAAGAUAACCCAAAUUGCUUUUGUGGACUAAUUCCACCUCCUAAUGGAAGUCGGAAAUCUGGCCUAUGGCAGAAGACAUCAGAGAUUAUGCAAAAUCUUGGCCCAGACCCUUCUCAGGAUCUUCGUCCUUCUGCUGAUUCUCCUGCAGGCCUCACAAAUCUUGGUGCAACAUGCUAUGCUAACAGCAUACUCCAAUGUUUGUACAUGAAUAAAUCCUUCCGUGAAGGUAUUUUCUUGGUUGAACCUGAGGUUUUGGAACGGCAGCCAGUGUUGAAUCAACUUUCUCGGCUUUUUGCACAGUUGCAUGCUAGUAAAAUGGCUUUCAUAGACUCAUCUCCAUUUGUAAAAACGCUGGAGUUAGAUAAUGGAGUUCAACAGGACAGUCAUGAGUUUCUAACGUUACUUCUUUCUUUACUUGAACGUUGUCUGAGCACCUCUAAAGUUACAAAGGCAAAAUCUAUUGUUCAAGAUCUUUUUCGUGGAAGUGUAUCCCACGUUACCAGGUAAAACCAAAUCUGAUUGGAGUAGAAUUAUACUUCUUUCAGAUAAGGCCUUUCUCUGUGUUAUUUUUAUGUUCUUUUUGCAUUAUGGGGAUUACCAAUUGAUGUUUGUCAAUUGUUUAAAAUGUCACACAAACAUUGUGGUGUCUUCUUAUUUCGUUUGGAUAGGUAGUGACUGAGUUCAUAGAAUGAUGUAAAUUAUCCAACCUGUCUUUAAAAAAUUUAAUGGGAUCAAGAUACCAAUCAAAGUGAUACACAAGGGAGCCAAUAACAGUGUAAAUGAAAAUUGUCAAAUAAUUAUUGACUGAUUAGCGGUUGUUUUCUUAAUGCGUGCUUGCCAUUUUCUUGUUGAUGUUAGCCCUUUAAAAAACAAGUAAAUACUUCCCCUCCAUUAGAAAACUAUUUAUUCCUUUUUUUUUUGGUAAAAGAAUUGUGAAUGAGAUUUGUAAUGUUCAUAUUUUUCUAGAUGGACUUAUAAAGUUCUUGUUCCUCAUAGUGACUGGUGUGGCAUUAGAUAUACUUCUGAAGUUUGUUUAAUAUUUCCGUUCAUUUGUAACUUUUGAAGUUUUUAGCUUUGCUGCUUUUUUUUUUCAUUUGGGUUAUUUGUAUCAUUAUGUUUGUGCCCCAGCAGCAAAUUUUUGAGUACAUUUGCUUUUUCAUAUAAAGGUGAGUCUACGGUUAUUCCUUCAGCUGAUCUCACAUGGCUAUUAUUUUAUCCUUGCAUGUAUGCAGGUGCUCACAAUGUGGAAAAGACUCUGAAGCUUCUUCCAACAUGGAGGAUUUCUAUGAGCUGGAGUUGAAUGUGAAGGGUUUGAAAAGUUUGGAUGAGAGUUUAGAUGAUUAUCUUAGUGUUGAAGAGCUUCAUGGAGAGAAUCAAUAUUUUUGUGAGUCGUGUAAAACAAGAGUUGAUGCUACCCGAAGCAUCAAGUUGCGGACAUUGCCUGAUGUUCUGAAUUUUCAGCUUAAGCGUUGUGUUUUCCUUCCAAAGGUAGUUAUGAUAUUCUUGAGAAUGUAGAGUUUCCAUUUAACUUGUUGAUGAGCACAGAAAAGCAGUCUAAGCUAUGUUUUAUGUAAUACACAUGUUUGAUAUUGAUGCAGAUUAGAGGUUGUACACUUGUUGGUUAUAUGGUUAGUUAUAGAAGUUGUGGUUAAUAGUUAUUUUAAUAUUUUCUUCUCUAUUGAUUUGUGUCAGUAGACGACAACAAAGAAGAAAAUUACUUCUGCAUUUGUUUUUCCUGAAGUACUUGAUAUGAGGCAGAGGCUAUUUGAGCCUUCUCAGCUUGAAUCAAUAUAUGAUUUGUCAGCCGUGCUGAUUCACAAGGGGACUGCAGUUAACAGUGGCCACUAUGUAGCGCAUAUCAAGGAUGAGAAGACAGGACAAUGGUGGGAAUUUGAUGAUGAGCAUGUUUCAAAUUUAGGUCCUCACCCAUUUGGAGAAGGCACUUCAGGUUCCAAUACCAAGCCUGUUCAUGUUAAACCUGAAUCAGUUCAUCCAUCUUGCACGGGACAAAUUAAUGCUGUUUCGAAUGGUGAUAAUGUGGAUGUCAGUCACCAACAACCUACGGAAUCUAUUUCUGGUCAUGUGGAGACGUUUUCAUCUAGUGAUGCAUAUAUGCUGAUGUAUAAUCUCAGGCGUUGCCGAAAGGAUGAUGAGAAAGUGCCUGUAGAGUGUAAUGCCAUUGAUAGGAAGAUAGAAGGUGAUAUUGUUUGUAGUUCUCUUCCAUCUCAUCUUUGUGAAGAGAUUAAAAACUUUAAUGCAUCAUAUCUUGAUGCUUGCCAAAAAUACAAAUUUAAAAAAGAAGAAGAGAUGAAUCAUAUCACAGAGCGUAGACAGGAAGUGCGUUCAAUUUUGUCUGAAGCGCCUGUUCGAUCUUUGGAGGAAUCCUUUUUCUGGAUUUCAACAGACUGGCUCCGUCAGUGGGCUGAUAACAUGAUUUCACCGUAAGGACAUUCUUUCUGUCUUUGUUUAUAUUUCUAGUUCUUAACUUUCUUUCUGCUGGAAAUACAGUGUCAGGGUCUCUGUUUUGCAUAUUUUUGUGGGCUUACACAGUAAUCACUUGCAGUGUUCUUGACAACACAUCCAUCCUAUGUUCACAUGAAAAAGUUCCAGCGUCAAAGGUUGGCUCCAUAAAGCGGUUGUCAGCUAAAGCAUGGACCAAGUUGUUCUCUAAGGUAUUUGCUUGAGUAUUUUGGACUCACCUAAUACUGUGUGAACUGUGGUUACAUACAGCCGAAAAUUGCAUCAUGAUGCUCUAUGUGAUGAACCUGAUGUCUUUUUCUGGUUUCUUAUGUGUUGAUGCUGUCAAAUGUUCUGUUUGCUUGUUUUAUCUUUUCCAUGUCUGUGUUUUACUUCUGUUGCACUAUGUGUUUUACUUCCUUUUUAACCGAAUGUUGGUAAUUUCAGUAUAAAGGGAGCCCAAUACUGGCCUCUGAUGCCUACUGCAUGGUUUGCCUUACUGAGGGGGCUCGAAAUGUAGUGUGUGCUGACAGCUAUAGGGAUAGGAGAAUACUCAUGAAGCAAGUUGCUGAGGAUGCACUAGCCGGGAGGUGUUCAGAUGGAGAAUAUUUUGUUUCUAAAGCAUGGUAUGGCUGCAAACUAUUCUGUUGCUUUUUAUUCUUCCUUCAGACCUCUUCAAUCUUCUGCUGCAUCAUAUUUUCUUUUUCUAUAGUAAUUCUAGUUAGUUUCUAUUUGUAGGUUACAACAGUGGCUUAAAAGAAAAAUUCUUGAUGCUCCAUCAGAAGCUGAUGCGGGACCAACAGCUUCAAUUAGGUGUCCUCAUGGGCAACUUAUGCCUGACCAAGCCACUGGUGCUAAGAGAUUGCUUGUUCCCGAGAAUCUCUGGCUCUUCCUUUAUGAAGAUGCUUUUGCAGUAAAGCCUGAUGAUCAGUUGGGUUGUUCAACGUUUCCUUUAGACUCUGCACAGUGUUCCCAAUGCAGUGAUGAACUAUCUGAAGUAGCAUGCAUGGAGGAUUCUUUGAGGUAAUUUAAACUUUUACUCCUAGCAGACUGAUAAGCAUGUGUAAUUGCGUUAACCAGUAUUUGUGCUGCAGAGUGGUGAGGCUCAAACAGCGCCAGACUCAUGAGAAAUUACUUACAGGGAAAACUGUGCCACUUUCUCUGGAUUGCAAGUAUUACUUGAUACCCUCUUCUUGGCUUUUGAAGUGGAAAAACUACAUUACUGCAAGUGGCAAGAAUGUUUCCUCAGUGGAGAAACCUGAAACAUUAGAGGGCAUCAUGGAUUUGCUGAAGUGUGAAAAGGUAACUUGCAACUUUUCUGGGCAGUGAUUCUGUUGAAUAUCCAGCACCUCUGGUAGACCAUAAAUGGCGAUAUGCAUGUUUUUUACUUUAACCAUACUCAUAAGUCAGACAAACUUACCAUUGGUCCCAAUUCAACAAGUUGAGGAAUCCUGGCAUCAAGUUAUGGACUGAUUAUUUGAACUAAAAGUUUUUUUGCGCAUUUGAGAACUAUUAUGGUCCGUGUUCAAUCUGCCUUCUUUUUAUUCUGUUAUUAGUGUUAUGAAAUUAUUUUAACUUUCCUCUUGCUUUCUUUCAGCAUUCACGACUUCUAGAAAGGCCUGUUGAUCUGGUCUCUAAACGUGGUUUAAUUUCCCAGAAGUCUCCCCCUGUAAGUGUGAAUAAAUGUGUUUGUGAAUAUGUGUGUGUGUGUGUGUGUGUUUGAGAGAGAGAGAGAGAUGCCAGGCCAUUUUGAAUGGUAAACUUGCAGCUAUUUUUGUUGAUUAAUCUUGUGUGAAUGCUCUAAUGUUGGAAUUCUUGCUUCUUCUUUUUUCUCUGUGGAUUCUAGGUGGAUGGGUUAAUAAUCAUUCCUGAGAGUGACUGGAAAUCCUUUUGUGAGGAAUGGGGUGGUGUACAGGAGAAGAGCAUAUCUGCUGAAAUUGAGUUAAGUAAAACUGAAGGAAAUAAUUUGGCAGGGUCCUGCGAAGAGAUGCCAAUGUGUGAGGAGGAUCUAAGUACCCCAAAUCCAGUAAAUGGUGAAGUUGAGUCUAGACAACUCGUGAUUAGGACUUGUCCUGAGGUAAAGGCUUACCUUUUUUUUUUUUUUUCCUUCUCUUUUCUUGUCAUGCAUAGCGGAGGAAACUUGUUUUUCUUGUUUGUUUUUUAAGUAGAAUUUGUCUACAUUAGGAGCUCCAAUCUCUGGAAUCUUCGGAUCUGUUGUCUUCUGGUAGGAUAAUUGGUUACUCGAGUUAACUUAUGGAAAGUAGUAGCUUAAGUUGCCUUGUGGAAUUAGUUCUCUCUGUCUCUCCCCGUCUCUCUUUUAGGAAUCAAUUUUGUUAUUAUGCAGAAUUUAAGUGCCAGCAACAUUUGCUAGAUUGUUCACAAAAAAAAUCUACAAAUUUUACAAAUUUUGAGUGUGGGUUACAUCAAAAUUUGCAAGUUACAAGGAGCAUUUUUAAAGUUGUUCUUCUGAUUAGGUGUCUCAAUUUUCCUAGAUAUGUGAGGAUUGCAUUGGAGAAAGAGAAAGCAGGGAACUAAUGCGGAAGCUUGACUAUUGCAAUGAGGACAUAUAUGUGUACUUUAUACAUGGCAAGGAAGCUCCAAAAUCCAUUCUAAAACCAUCUGAAACAAAUUUUGAUCCAGAUCGCCGAGUUUCCAAGCGCUCUCGGAAGACAAAGACUGGGGAUCAGAUAAGCUUGAAAGUCUCUGGUUCCACAACCGUAUACCAGUUAAAAAUGAUGAUAUGGGAAUCUUUUGGGGUAUGCUACUUGAAGCUAACACAUACAAGUGAACAUACACACUAAUGCACACAUACACAAACACAAGUGCUAUGUGCACUUUCUGUUGGUUUACACAUCCAUCUUUCCAAGAUUGAAAGUAUUCUGGUUUCAUUUCACAACUUGUCCUUUUAAGGUGGCACUCUCGUGUUGUGCCCCUGGUGUUUUGAAUAUAUAAAUUAACUAUGAGUUAAAAUUGUUUUGUUCCUGUUGGCAUCUGAUUACUGUUUUACAUUAUGCAGGUUGUUAAGGAAAACCAGGUACUUCACAAAGGUACUCGGAUAAUUGAUGAUGAAGUUGCUACUCUUGCGGACGUGAAUAUAUUCCCUGGGGAUAAGCUUUGGGUGAACGAUUCAGAAAUCCAUGAGAACCGAGAUAUUGCUGGUAAUUUCAUGUUGUUAGUUAUUUGGACAUUUUUUAAAAUAUGGUGCUUAGGAAAUGUUUGUAGUUGGUCUGAUUGUAAUGCAUUGGCCAAUUUCAAUAACCAUAACAUGCAUUUUAAUUUUUUUUUAUACAGAUGAGCUAUCUGACCAGAAAAUGGAUGUGCAACACACUGAAGAGGGGUUUCGUGGGACGCUUUUGACAGCAAAUGUUUCAUCGCAAGUUGUAUAAGAUGCUUGCUUUUGCUAUUUAAUAUUUGAAUGUAGUAUGCAUGUUUUUGUAGAUAUUGAUAGAGGGGAGGUGACUUGAAUAUUUUUAAACUUCAACCUGCAUUCUGAAGACCUGCAUUUUUGAGGUUAGUUGCAAUUGUACUAUCCAACUACUUUCUUUUUGUUCCAUAAACUGGCUUGCUGAAUCUUCUGUGUUACCUUUUCCUUUUCUUUCUUUUUUUCUCCACUUCUUAACCUUAUCUUGUACAUUCUUUCUCCUCUGAUUCCUUUUCCCCUAUUUAGGUAAAUUAUGUUUUAUGAGUUUUUUUUUCCAUUUUAAUUUUACUUCAAUUAAAAAUGGAUAAAUGCUGCCGCUGAUUUUCAGGAUUUGUUUGGGAAAUCAUUUUUUAUUUUGACCCUUCUCACUCUUCUUUUUGUUCCAGAAGCAGUUGAACCUAGUAACUGUGGGCUUCCUGAAGGCUGGUCCCGUGUGUAAUGUAGGUUACCCUGCCCCUUGCCUUUGAAGACAUUUUGCCAUAUGCUGCCAUGCUCGCUCGCACAUCGGAAAAGGAAAUGUGAUGUGUGCCGUGUCCUGGUCAAAUGUUUUGGUUCUAACCAGGUGGUCAUUUUUCUGUUCGUAAGGAUGUUACCGUGCCUGUUAUAUAUGCCGAACAAUGUUCAAGUAUCAUGGCAUGUGUUGUCUUGAAUGUAGAUUUGUCAAAAUUGAUGGAGUGUGAUGUUUUCUCUCAUAGCUAAUAGCUUCUGCGGCUAGUCAUUGUACAAGUAAGUUUUAUAAAGUGUUAAUAAAGCGAGUUUUAUGUGUUAUUUCCUCUGCACUCGUUCUUAAUCUUCGAUUGCGGCAAUAAGAAAAAUAAUUGGAAUAAAAUUUCUAAUUACUAAGGCCUCUUUAACAAGCAAAAAGAAUGUUGAGACCAAAAAUAAAAAUAAAAAUAAAAAACCAAAUCGAAAAAGAUAGUAUGAUAAUAUAACAGAUGCUCAAAGGGGCAUAUACCAAAUGAAUUUUCUUUCGUGUAAUUUUUUAUGUUUGCUUGUCUGUAUGCCAAUCAUGUUCUUCCCAAUAAGUUAUUCAAAUCAUGGUCAAAGAAAGUGCACCAAAAACAGAACCUCCUAUUUUCCCCUGCCUGAAGAUAAUGCAUAAAAGAAAGAAAACACUGAUUUUGAAGAAAGUGAACAAGUUUUUAGAUCCAGCGAUUGUGACUUCUUGAGUUGUGGGCUCCUCUGAACCACCUAUCCCACCCUACAUCAGCUGGACCUUUAGUCCUGUGUGUACAAAAAUAUCCCAUCCCAGUCAAGAUUAAGAUAGAAAAGAAAAGUCCUCUUAAACAACAACAAAGAAAGAAGGGACAUGGUUGGUGGGAAUUAUAAUUAUCUCUUACGAUGGAAGCAGGGGAUCAGAACUGGAUUCAACGCUGGCAAUGAGCCUGUAUGAGAUUCACCAUAAACAUUUAUAAAAUUAAAAAUUAAAAGAAAAAAAAGAAAAAAAGUGAUGUUGGGUUGGAUUGAAGUUUGAUAAAACAGAUUAACAUUGGAUUUUGCUUACUCUUUGCAGACAAUGGAGGAUUCACCUACUGUCUCUAGUUGGGUCAGCUCUUUCUGCAUCACAAGUCAUAACUUUUGUUUUUAAUGAUAAAUUAUUGGUUUUUCUAGCAAUUACAGAAUACACAAGAAGAAUGAAAUGAAAGACCGACCUGGAUGAUGUCGAUUUGGUUAUGGAGAUGGGAUAUAGAAGCUGCCAGUUUAUGCUUCCCUAUGAAAGUGGGAUAUUGGGCUGCUCUUGCUCUGUCCUCAAAAUGAAGAGCCGCUCCUCCUCCUCCUUCACCUUCAUGAUCUUCUUCUUCUCUCUUUAGUCCUUCUUCUCUUCCUCUUCCUGGAGAUGAUGAUGGUGAUGGUGAUGGUGAUGAUGAUGAUGAUGGGUUUGCUUCUACUUGCUUAUCCAUUGUUGUCGACAUCACCACUUACUUGCACCAAUACCAACUACAACCAAGCCUGUUUUUUGGACCUAAAUGAUCAACUUUAAAAAGGAAGGGGAGAGAGAGAGAGAGAGAGAGAGAGAGAGAGAGAGAGAGAGAGAAUGUGGACCUAGUUUGUUUUCAUGAUUAAAGCAACAAGCAGUGGACAUAGAAUAAAAAAGGUGAAAUAAAUAAAGAAAGCAAUGGGAUUAUAAAGAGUGAUGAAUUUAAAACUAAAGCAGUCAGUCAAAAAGAAGAAAAUGGUUUAUGAGCGGCAGAGACACAGGCAACACGCUAACAGCUCAGGCAGACCAUAUAUUUCCAUCAUCCUCGUAUAAUUUAUUUAAUAAUGUUAAUAAUAAUUUUGUAAUAUUAAUGGAGAUGACAAAUGGUUAGGGGAUGAAAGUAGCUAGGCCGCCACCUAUCUCUCUCUGUUAACUGCUUUUGGCGGUUUGACAGUUGACAUACCAAAGAUUAGCUUAGUCCUAAUCAAACUGUGAUAGACUUUCCAACUUUUAUCUGCAAUAAGCAAAGCUUUGCUUAUUUUCAAUCAUCACAUUAAUGCAAAUGCAAAAUUUCUGCUACUAGUUAUUUCAAUGAGAGUAUCUCCCAACCCUUCCCCCGUGUUCUAUAUUGGUUGUGAGAUAUUUUGGAUUAAACCGAGGACUCCAUCAAUUAUUUAGAUUUCUUACAAUAAGAAGACAGUUCUUUGAAUUCUUUAAUAUUCCCUGAACUAAACUUUAGGAUUCAUACUCAAAAACACAAUCAAAACUCAAAACUACAAAAGAUCAAAAUUCAUACAUGAAGUCCCACUCUAAACCCAAAAUACGAAAAUUCAUACACGAAAUCCUAAUCCAAAAUCAAAACCCCAAAAUACUGAAAUUCUUACAUGAAACCCCAAUCCAAACUCUAAACCUCAAAACGUCAAAAUCAAAACCCUAAUCCAAACUCAAUACCCCAAAAUGCUAAAAAUUCAUAUCCAAAACUCCAAUCUAAAUUCCAAAAUUCCUACCCCAAAAUCCAAUAUAAACUCGAAAUUUAAAACCACAAAAGGCCAAAAUUCAUACACGAUCCAAACUCACAAACCUAAAAAAUGCCAAAAUUCAUACCCAAACUCAAAACUCCAAAGUUUAUACCCAAAACCCUCAUCCAAUAACUAACUUCAAAAUGCCAUAAUCCAAACUCAAAACACAAAAUGUCAAAAUCGUAACCGAAGCCCCAAUCUACACUCUAAACUCAAAAGCCCAAAUUCACACACGAAACCUCAAUCCAAACUCUAACUAAAAAUCCAAACUCAAAACCCGAAAAUGCCAAACUUCAUCCCCUUAACCCCAAUCCAAACUCUUAACUCGCAAAUAUUCAAAUGUAACUCAAAAUCCAAAAAUGCGAAAAUUCAUUCCCAUAAACCCAAUCCAAAUUCCAACUCCAAAAUGUCAAAAUUUAAAAUCAAAUGACUAAUGCGCUUGUUCAUAAAUAGCACAUUGCUUCAAUUUUCUUUUCAAGCGGCGGUGUACAACAAGGCCUAAAACUUCAUGUGUAAUUCGUAAAAUUUUCCCUUCAAGGUUUGAAGUUUGGUUUUUGAUUUUUGGGUAGUGGAGUUUGGUGUUUGGGCCAACCCAGCAUCCCACUUUAGGGCUACAAAAAUUAAAAUCAAAACCACAUCAGUGUGGUUAUAGAUUUGGAAGAAAUGGCAAUAGCAUCAACAUCAGCCUCAGCCUCAAAGCUCUUCUCUUUUUCCUCGUUAUCAUUCCGUCUGCGAAGCCUCACAACCGCCUCUAGUAUCAGCAGCAACUGCAGCACCACAAGCAAGAAGAAGAAGGAGAAGGAGAACCUGAAGCAGAGAGUGGUGAUAAAAGAAAAGAGGAGAACGCGUUCUGAUAGAGAGUUCAAAUUGGAAACCAUUAAACGUUAUGGAGAUACUGCCGCCCACAUUCCAGUCAUGCUUGGUGAAGUUUUGGAUGUAUUCUCGGCAUCCAAACAGCUCCGGUACUUCGUCGACUGUACGGUUGGAGCUGCUGGGCAUUCCUCUGCGGUCAGUAAUCACUCUUCAUCUCUCUUCAUUUGAAGUUUUUGUGAGUUGGGUUUUUGGAUUUAUUGUUAAUUACUUGCAGAUAAUUGAAGGCCAUCCAGAAAUGGAAGUGUAUGUAGGACUUGAUGUUGAUCCUGUGGCGCUUGAGAAGGCUCGAGCACGGAUCAACUCUGUUUUGCAUAACCCAACUUCUUCGACCCUCAAAGCUUCCACCUUUCUGGAGAAUUUCAGAUAUGUUAAGUCUCUGCUUUGCGAUGUGGAUGAGACACUCCUUGACACUGGGAUUGAUGGGAUUUUAAUGGACUUGGGAAUGUCAUCAAUGCAAGUGAACGAUCCUGAAAGAGGGUUCAGUGUGCUUGCUAAUGGACCUCUUGAUAUGCGAAUGGAUCCUCAGGUAACAGAUGUUUCGACAUUCUUAUAUCUAAUGGAGACUGGGAAUUUUUUAUUUUUUUUUUGGUUCUCUAAUUAUGCAUAUAAAAAAUUUGAGUGUGUAAGUGUAGGCUGCCUGGUUACUCCAUUUUGAAGUCUUGUUUUUUUUUUUUUUUUUUUUUUUUUUUUUUUUUUUUUUUUUUUUUUGAGGACCUUUUCUAUUGAAAGGGGCGAUAGCAUAUUAAACUCACACACACAACACGAAGUCUUUCAGCUGGUAGAACUUUGUUAUAGACUGUUGGUAAUCUUAUUGAGUCAAUCUAGUAUUUAUGGUGAUAAUUAUUUCUUUAGAUGGGCUCCAUCAGGGAGUCUUUAAUACCAUUCUCUCUAUACUUGUCCAUCAGGGUUGCUUGCGUCCGUGAAUUAACUCAAAUGCGAUGCCAAUUAUACUGAUGUUUAGGCUAUAAUCACUUCUCAUCAGAAGCAUAUGGUGAGGCUACAGUUACGCCACAUGCAUGUACAUGCAGCAAAUUGUUGCCCUUGACGAUAUUUUACAUAAGUAUGAGGAUUGGAUGUGCCAUGACCUUCAUGAGGAUUUAAUAUUUAGGACAGUUGAGGAUGGACUGCUGUACAUUGCCUAUCAUGGGCUCAUGUGGGGUUGAAAAGAUUUGAAUGGCCCCAAUUAUGAUCCCCUUGUUAUAAUUUAUAUGAACCUGUGACUCGACUUCUGGAACUAGGCUUAGUUAUCUAUUUUCUUUUCGAAAUUAAUGCCCGCUGCCAACAAUGUCUGUCUGCUUCAUUGAAGUUCUAGGUGAUAUUGUAGGGUGAAUGAAAAGUUUCUAGGCGGAAUGACAUACAUGAUUCCUAUGUUUUACUGGUUGCAUCAUCAUUUUAAAUGUUUGUUUCAUUUAAUUGAUUGGAGUAGGGCUAUGACAGGCAAGUCUGAAAGCUGAAGACAUUUUAAACUCUUGGCCAGAGACUGAGGUAGGGCGCAUCCUGCGAGAGUAUGGGGAAGAAAGUAACUGGUACUCUCUUCAAAAUAGAAUUGUUAAAGCCCGAUUGAAUGGUGGAUUGCAUUCCACUGGUGAUCUAGUUGAUCUUAUAAAAAGUGCGACUCCUCUGAGUCGAGGUAGGUAUCCUCUUGUGCUCUGUUGUGGUUCUACUUUGGCCUUGCAUUGUAUAUAUCUGUCAAGAUUAUAGUACCUUUGCGUGUUUUGGUCAUGGCUAUGCAAAAAAAGUUUCAAUUACUAAAAUCGAAUUCAAUUGCAACAGAAGGAAGGCAAGGUUGGAUUAAGACAGCUACAAGGGUCUUUCAAGCUCUGAGGAUAGCUGUCAACGAUGAACUGAAGACUCUGGAGGAUUCUCUUUAUGCUUGUUUUGACUGCCUUGCACCUGGUGGUAGGCUAGCGGUCAUCUCUUUCCAUAGUUUGGAAGACAGAAUUGUGAAACAAACAUUUCUGGACAUAAUCAAUGUCAAAGAUGGAGAUGGGGAUAUUGAUAUGAAUGAAGAAGAAGCGCGGAACAAAGAUUUGAGAAAGGUCAGGAAUGACAUUGAUGAAAGUGAAGCAUGGAUCAAACAAAUGGUACAAGGCUUGAGAGGAACAAUUCUCACUAAGAGACCAAUUACACCAUCUGAAAAGGAAGAGAGCCUGAAUAGCCGUUCCAGAAGUGCUAAGCUGAGGGUGAUUCAGAAGGCUUAGUUUAAUUAUUUUGAUGAAUUAGGUUUUGAAGACAUUCCUACAGCAAUAUUUAUCUGCAUCUCUGGUGUUUUCCCCAUUUUUUAUUCACAUUUUGUUUAGGUUGGGAGUUUAGAUUAUAUAAACAUUUUUUGUUUUUGAGGAAUGUAAUAUUCCACAUAUAUGAAAUAUCUCAAACCCUAGAGUGUUCAUCCAUUUGAUAGGAACUAUUUCCUUGCAAAUAUGCUAGAGGUUGGUGUUGGAAGUGUAAUGAGAGAAGUGUAAUGACCAUGUAUUAGAAAUCUUCUCGUUUCUCUUUUGUUUUUUUCUUUUGAUAAAUUACCAGAAAUCUUCUCUUGAGUUAUUGUAAAUCAAGAUGCAAAGUUGUUUAUCUUUCACUAAUGUGCAUAGAAUAAAGGUUUAUUAUCACAAAACGUCCCUAAGGUUUACGAAACUAUCAGAUUGCAUCCUUAAUGUUUUUGUGUGUCAUUCGUGGUCCUCAAGGUUAGUAUGUGUUAUCACAAAUGGUCCAUGUCGUUAGGUUCCGUCAAAAACUCUGUUAAUUUGUUGAUGUGGCAUAUAUAUAUAGCACAAAACAUCCCUGAGGUUCAUGCACUUAUCAUAAAUGGUUCUUGCCAAAUUUUUUAAUUUAAAAUUCAUAAAAUUUUGGUUUUCUUUUUAAAAUUUUAUGAAUUUAAAAUUAUUUAAAUAUAUAUAUUAAUAUUUCAAAUACAUGUGAUAUUGUAGAUGUGGGCUUCAUAUAUAUGCCACAUCGACAAACUAAUGGAGUUUUUAAAAAAUAAUUUAAAAAUGAAAAAACUAAGGGUUUAGGGUUCAUAAAUGGUCCUCAAGAUUAAAAUCCUUCUAUAAAUAAUAUUUUCAUUUAUAAAUAAUUUUAAAAAGAAAACCAAAAUUUUAUGAAUUUUAAAUUAAAAAAUUAAAAAAAUUCGUAAAGACCAUUUGUGAUAGGUGCAUGAACCAUAGGGAUGUUUUGUGAUAUAUAUACAGCCCCGAUCUCUUGGACCACAGGGGUCCAAGAAAUUGUGGUCACCCACCGUUGGAUGUUAAUCCAAUGGUUCAAAAAAAGUUCUUAAAAUGAGUGCAAGAGUGAGUGAACUGUUGAAUUUACAUCCAGCGGUGAGUAACUACAAAUCUCUUGGACUCCUGUAGUCUAAGAGAUCGAGACUGUAUAUAUAUAUAUGUCAUGUCAGCACACUAACGGAGUUUUUGACGAAACUUAACAGCAGGGACCAUUUGUAAUCGCACAUACUAACCUUGAAGACCACGAGUGACACAAAAAAAAAAAAAACAUUAAGGAUGCAAUCUGAUAGUUUCGUAAACCUUAAAGACGUUUUAUGAUAAUAAGCCUAAAAUAAAUAAUAGUUUAGACUAUUACUUUUAUUAAUUAAAUAAAAGGAAGAAGUGGUAAUGGUAAAUAAUAGUCAUAACGGUGGCAUGGGCAAAAUUGUAUUUUUGCAGUGGUUGUGGGUUGAGAGACAUUGAGAACUGCUGAGUUGUCAUGUCUUUUCUUUUCACGAUCCUAUAUCUUAUCUCAAAUCAAAUCUGAAUCCCCUCCAACUAUCCUCUUCCAACUCUCAGUAACAUUUAAUAUUCGACCCACACAUUAUAACCACUAUCCUCUUCCAACUCAAAACCAAAAUAAUCUUUUUUUGGAGGAACAAAACCAACAGAAAUUUAAAGAACCAGAACUGGUGAAUUUUCUUCCCCUCUCUGUUCCCACUAUUCUCCCCAACCAAACAGAAAUAUGAAAAUAAUAAAACAGGGCUUGCAGACAAUUUUAUUUUCUAUGGGUUUUGUUCUCUUCCUUUCCAACAGUUCAUAAUUUAAAUUUCUUUAUGUGCUCUGCUUCCUAAAAUAUCUUUUUGCAGCAUAAUGAAGACACUGGCUAUCAAAUGGCAUGAACAAGUACAUUGGUGUGCCUCAUUCCCAUCCUCUCAUAUGCCAAUCUUCAACCCCAGGUUCUUUUUUCUAAUUUUGUAUUGCAAUUCGCAAUUUUAUCUUGACCCAUCGAAGAAAAGUUAGCAGUGAUCAUUCAGUGGUUAAGAAAUCCUUGCUUUUAUAUUUCAGGAAGAAAAUUGAAGUGAUAAAGGUAACUAAAGCAACCAGCUUAAGUUCAGAGUCAAAUGCAAAGAAAGCAAAUUUGUGUGCUGCAAAGAAGGAAAGAAUUAAGCUGCCAAAUCAUGAUGAUAGCUCUGGUGGCAAGACUUUUCACAUUAGUGAGUUUCUCAGCCACCAAUCAGGAAUUGAAGCCAUGCUUAACACCAGAGCCUUAAAAAGCUUUGAAUCCCUUGAUACUGAUACUUACAGGUCAUUCCCUUGGAACCCUUUUGUGCUUGACUUCUUCCAUGUUCACUUGAAACUUCAAAAGUGAGUCUAAGAUAGGAAAAAACAAUGCCCUUUUUCUGUGCAGAUGCACCCUGCCAAAGCUUCAGCUUUUGAAUUUUGAAGCUGCUCCUGUGCUGGACUUGAGAGUGACCCCAACAAAUGAAGAUUGUAUAGUUGAGAUGCUUUCUUGCAGGGUGAGUUUCAAAUCCCAUAAAUGCUUACAUAUAAAAGUGAACUUGUAACAUUGCAAAAUGAGGAUGCAUUUGAUGGCUUCUUACAAAUUUGAUUUGCAGUUUGAGGGUUCAGAAGCCGUGGAACGCCAAAACAGCCAUUUUUCAGGUGAAUAAAGAUUGGGUGAGAGUCUUGUAACUUUUAGAAGAGUAAGUUUUAGUCCAUGGGAAUAUCGAAUUUACACUUUCGAAGGAAGAAAGACUUGUAAGGUCAUCAAAUGCUCAUUUAUUUUUGAAAGCCUUUAUUCUAAGGGCCUGGCUGCAAGGCUCUUCAUGUAUUUCUUUGAAAAAGAAUAUCAAGCGUCUUCUAAUCUUAUGGUCUCUAUUUACAGCAUUUAUGAGAAAUCACAUGUCGUGGGACACAAAUGACUCUGAAUCUUUUUUGGAGGUUGAUGUGAAGCUAAACCUCACUCUUGAGGUUGUUAAAAUUUCGCUUGCAUUAUCCUUCACUCUCUGUUAUCUUUCUCCUUCACUUUCGACGCAAUAGCCAAUACAUGCCAUUUUCACCUGUCGUUAGCAGCUGUUUCUAGUUUCUACUUGCAUAAUUGAGCUGGAAUAUAGGAUUUCAAUAGCAUAUGUUAUGUGCAGAUUUAUACACGCCCUUUCACCAUGAUGCCAGUAUCAGCUGUUGAGCGUCCUGGAAAUUUGUAAGUACUUGAAGCUUUGUUUGUUUCUUUAGAACUUUAUAUAAUUGUUUUUGGGCAGAGAUGAAUUCAAACUGUGCAAGUGUGAUGACAUGCAGAAUGAUGCAAGCCUUAGUGGAUAGGCUGGUGCCAUUGCUUCUGCAGCAACUACUACAAGAUUACAGCAAAUGGGUUGUUGAUAAGCAAGCAGUUGGAUGAUCUUCCAUCCAUUUCUGCAAACAGAGAUAGAUGAGUAAAACAAAAGAAGACAGAAUGGGGAGUCGUAGUUUCCAGCCUACGACGAAAAGUAAUCCCUUCUGCAUCAAUCUGAACAUUCAACUCUACUUUCCGGCGACAUUAUUUCAAGUUGCGGUCAUUCUUUUGGGGAGGAAAUUGUUAACUUGCAGCUUAAAUUUAGGUCUAAAACUAAAACCUCCCCACAAUAUCCUUGAUCCUUAUGAUGAUGUCCUAGAAUUUUGCGGAUGGAUAUAAAAUGUGUUAAAAUUCUCGAUCAAGAGGAGAUGUAAAUUUUUAGUUGUCAUUUUCGUCUGUAUAUCUUAAGAUGUAAUGUAAUAACAUUGUUAGUUCAUCAAUUUAUGACAUUCAAGUUAGAAGGAAAUUUGUCAAUCCCUAGCUUUCAUGGUUUUAUCAUUGUCACCUUACAAAGAAGAAAAAUUACAAUUGUAACCAAAUCCGUGACUUCAUUGGCAAAUGCCAUGACACAUUGGGGGAUGCAUUGCAUCAUGCUGCUAAUAAACAAAUAGGCCAACAACAAAUAAAUAGAUUAAAAGCAUUGCGUUUCUCAUCGCUUCCUCAAAGACUCCCUUGGCUGCAGGGAAGAAGGCAUGCCAAAGACUCGUGAAAAUAGCAAAAUAAAAUCACAGCAUUCCAGGGCUGGAUCUGAUGGCAAACAAAAAAAACUAAGUCUCAAACUGCGUUCCUAAAAACCGUAUUACAGGUAAGUUGCAUCAUCUGAUACAGAUCCAAGAAAACAUUACAACUCAAAAUGCAAUACAACAAACUCGGCCAAACUAAAAUUGCACUCCAUCACAGGCGGCACAACCAGUUCAGCUCUCAACGGUUGGUCAAACUAAUAUGCCACCUCCAUCACCAGCAGCACAACCGGCACAACCAGUUAUCUCGACAGUCGAUUAUGUUCAGCAAGCUCCUCUGACAGACACAAUAAAACCUGUCACAUUUUUAUGUUAGAACCACAAUGAAGGUUAUAUUGCGAUGAAAAAACAGAUUUAGAAAACAAAGGGCACGCGCAUGGAUGAGUUACAAAGAGCGACUCAGAGGAGACUAUUUUGACACUACAUAUCCAACUGCCACUUCUAAUGCCACACUUUGCUAAGCAUAUAAACCACUAUGUUUCAGCUUUCAACAGAUAGCUUUAUUCCUCUCUUUACAGAAAUUAGUGUUUUGCAGAAAAGAAGCUGCAUGAAGACGACAGCUACAACCACCUUAAUUCUUAUAAACCAAAAACAUAGAAACUAAAGCAUGGGAACCCAUGACACAUAACAAAAUGGAUGGCUGAUAACAUGCACUCAGUGACAUUUAUUAAAAGGCAUGCAACCUUGAUGUUUGUAUGUGACCUCAACAUAACAAAAAAUUCAAAAGCAUUUUACAAACAAUGCAUGUAAAGAAUUUUUUUUUUUAAAAGUAUAUCUUACCAUAAAUCAGUCCCGAUUCCUGGAACGACCAUCAUUAUGUUUGUCAUUUUCAUAUCUUCUUCUCUCACUUGAUCUAGAAUCAUCAUAUCUUGCUCUCUUGUAAUCCAGGUGCCUAUCUCUCUCUGUCUCCUUACUUCCCCCUUCUUCAUCUAUGUUUCCAUGCCUUCUAGAAUCAUCAGAUCUUGCUCUCUUGUAAUCCAGGUGCCUAUCUCUCUCAGGCUCUUUACUUCCCCCUUCUUCAUCUAUGUUUCCAUGCCUUCUAAUUCCACGCUCCUCUUCAACAUCCUCUCCAUGCCUUCUAUAUAUACGAUCAUCUUCAUUGUGUUUGUCAUUUUCAUGCCUCCUCCUAACCCUUUCAGUCUCCUUACUUCCCCUUUCUUCAUCUACUUUACCAUACCUUCUAUUUCCACGCUCCUCUUCAAUAUCUUCUGCGUGCCUUCUAUAUUUGCGAUCCUCUUCAAUAUGUUUGUCAUUUCCGUGCCUCCUCUUCUCCCUCUGUGUCUCCUUACUUCCCCUUUCUUCAUCUAUUUUUCCAUGCCUUCUAUUACCACGCUCCUCUUCCACAUCCUCUACACGCCUUCUAUAUUUAGGAUCUUCUUCAUUGUGUUUGUCAUUUUCGUGCCUCCUCCUCUCAUUUGAUCUAGCAUCAUCAUAUUUUGCUCUCUUGUAAUCCAUGACUUGAUCCCUGUCAAUAUCCUUAUUUCCCUGUUCUUCCUCCAUUUUCCCAAGCUUUCUGUUUCCAUGCUCCUCUUCGUGAUUUUCUCUGUGCUUUCUAUAUUCAUGAUCCUCUUCGUCUCUUCCAUGCUUCCUUCCCCUAUUUUCUUCCUCCUUGUUGUGUCUUCCACGUAUUCCAUGAUCCUCUUCAUCCCUUCCGUGCUUUCUACCCUUAUGCUCCUGAUCAUCCUUGCUGCGGCUUCUACCUCCUCCACGCUCUUCGUAAUCCUGAUUACCCCUCCUACUAACCCAUUGUGGUUCACUAUCCUUGCUGUGAACUCUGUCCUCACGUUCUACAGUCACAUCAUCAUCAGUAUCAAUCCUGCCACUUCCUCUACUCUUUUCUGUUAUUGCACCUCUACUUUUUCUGGACCUUUCAUAGUCAGAUUCAUCAUCCACAUCAUAAUUUUUCCUGCUUUUUCCACUUCUAACAUUGUUGCCUUUGUUGUCAUCCUCCACGACAAAAUUAUCUCGCUCCACCUUUCGGCUACCAUGCUGAUUCCUCUGCUUCUCAACUUGACUUUUUUUCCUUUCCAUCCUGCUGUCAGAAUCAGACUCAUCCCCAGAAUCAUGCCGCCUGCUUGGUUUCACAUGUAGUUUCUCCUUUUCAGCUCUACUCUUCGAGAAGUCUUUAUCAGAACCAGAAUCUUCAUCAGAAUCAUGCCUCCUACGAGGUUGUUUGGAUUUCUCAACUUCCUUUCUGGAUCUGCCCUCAGCACCAUCAUCACUGGUAGCAGAAUCAGAAUCAUCAGUGUCAUUCUUUCUGCUCUUAUUAUGCUUCUUUACAACCUUCUGCUUCUUUCUACCAUCAACUUCUGAAUCAUCUUCAUCGGAAUCAUGCCUCCUAUGAGGUUUUUUGAACUUAUCAACUUUCUUUCUUGAACUGUCCUUCGCAUCAUCAUCACUGGUGGCAGAAUCGGAAUCAUCGGUGUUUUCAUUUCUUCUUUUAUUGUGCUUCUUUGCAACCUUGUGCUUCUUGCCAACAUCAACUUCAGAAUCAUCUUCAUCACUGCUGCUAGUUCCACGGCGCUUCUUCUUUUUAUCAGCUUUCGGAGGACUACCACUGUUAUCGGUAUCAGAAGAAUCAUACUUAUGCCUUUUCUUCCUACUUUCUUCCUUCUUGUUCCGCCUAGAUUCUUUCACACUCUUUUUCUUAUCAUCUUUUUCAGCUUUCUGCUUUUCCUCCCCAUGUUUCUUCCGCGAAUAGUCCCUGUCCAAAAAUGCAUGCUCGCUUCUCUCCUGAGGCCUGCCAUCAUCAUUUGGACCAUUCUUCCGACUACUUUUCAGUCCAUCAUCAACCUCAUCAGUAUCUUUUUCUGUUAAAUCAGAUGAAGCUAGUCCAAGAGCAGCUCUUAAUGUUUCCAUUUGCUUCUCCUUCCUGGCAGCAAUUUGGUGGGUCUGUGUAUCUGAAACCCUGGUUAAGUGACAAAAUAUAAAUUUAAUCAAAAAAUUCAAAAUACCAAAUUUCAAUGUCCAACUUUUAAUCACAUUCUAUUGAGCAGCAAACUACAUGCAAAAUAUACUACUAUAAUUAGAAAAUUAAAGAUAUUACUAUUCAUAUAUGCAAGCAAUUCUCAACAUUUCAUACUUUAACCAAAAAAGAGAGAAAUUACUUCUUAUCGGAAAUCACAACGGCGGUGGAUCCACCGAGCUCCUCGGAAGCAGCUGCGGCUUCGAGAGUCUUCCGAGCCUCCUCGAGCUUCUCCGCGAUCUCAGUAUCCGUAAAACCCUGAUCGAUGAGCUUAUCCUCGAGCACCACAAGCUUGAGCUGAAUCUGGCGCUUGCGAUCAUGCUCGAGGAUGUCCCUGUUGGCCUUCUUCAUGACGCCGCCCAUGCCCUGGUCGUCGUCAAAGCCUCUGGAAGAAUCGGCGACCUUUCCGGUCCUCGAUUUGAUGAAGAACUUGUUAGUCUGUAUGUAACCAUUGGUCCCAGACCCCCUUGGAGUUUGUAACCCUAUUCCGUUGUACAUCUCGCUCUUCAAAAUCACUGUUCAAUCACAAUCGGUACUAAAAUCAACUCGCAGAAACCCUAGAUUCAAAAACAGGUGGAUACAAAUCCAACGCAAAACGAAGAAGGGCAAGCAAUUGAUUUCCAGGGAAACAAACAGAACCUGGAUUUCGCUAAGGGCGGUGUUUGUUGAAAUUCCCUGGCUCUCUCUUCGUAUCACAAGCAGAGAGGAAAAAUACAGAUUUAUAACCUCUGUAUUUUUUUCUGUUUUAAAACCUUUUCAGGUUUGGAAAGGAAUUUCGAGAAGAGGCCAACUUUACAGGCUUUGGAAUUUAUAAAGGCUUUUUUUAUCACAAAUUGUGCCUUAGGUUUGUAAAAUUAUCGUCUUUGAUUUUUUAUGUUUUUUUAAUGACAUUAUUGGUCAUUCCGUCAAGUUUAGUAGAAAAAAAUUUAUUAGAUUGUUGAUGUGGACGCUAAGUGAAUUAAAAUUAAAAAUAUAUAUUAUAAAUGAAGAAAAAAAAUUAGGAAAAAAAAAAAAGAUGGGUACGAGCUGGGGAUGGGUCUCUGGUGGAGGUGGGGUUGGGGUUGGAAUUCGGGCAGUUGUUGGGGGAUGGGUCUUGGGUGGGGUUAGGGUUGGGAUGGAUCUCGGGUGGAGAUGGGGGUUGUAUAGUGGCAUUGGGCUUGGGAGUUUUCUGGAUAGAGAAAAAAAUAGGGUGAGAGAGAGAAAGAGAGGGAGAUAGGGAGGGAUGGGGAAGGAGGGAUUGGGGGGGUUUGUGGUCGAGUAAUUGGGAGUUUGUCACAUGUAUAAAUAUUAUUUCCGUUCACAUGUUCUAUUGUUCACUUGCAUUUUUAUACAAAAUGUUAAUGAUGAGUUUUAUAACCCAAAGUCUGAAACUCAAAGACCCUAAUCUAUUUGAUUAUUUUCUAAUUGCAUGGACAUGGCCCUAAAUUAUCUGAUUAUUUCCCCAUUGCCCAAAAUUAGACUUAGAGAGAGGGCAAAUUUUAAAUGAUAAAUAAGAACAAUUAUGUAUAUAUUUAUAUUUCAAAAAAAAUUUGUAUUAUAUCAUUUUCAAUUCCAGUUGUAUAGACCCCGUUCCCUCUAUGUCCAUUCAAUCUGAACCUUGCUGCAUGAAUGCACUGUAAGACCAGGAAUGCCCUCAAUGAUCCAUUCCUCGCCCUCAAAUUAAUCCACUUUUAUCUCUAAUCAAGUGAUUUCAAUAACUCAUAUCGUCAACUAUUGUAUAGAGUCGAACAACAAAAUUUCAAAUCCUAACAACAGAUACAUUUCUAUUGCCUUAUAUAUUCAAUACAAACAUCAGGGACAAGCACUGCAUGUAUCCGGGUGUAAUUCUUCCCAAAUCUAUGGGGCACCCAAACUAAUUCACCACCAUGAAUUUUAGGUGGGGCAUAGGCAUAUUAGACACUCAACUUAGUCGCCUCUAAGAUGGAUCAAACAAUCAACUCUGCUUGCGUUUUACGCAUCGGAAUACCAGACUUUCAAUCCUCAUGUGUAUCGAACAAGACAUAAAACCAAGCGACGCUACAGCCCGACCCAAUAUGAACGUCCAUUGGUGUUGUGAAUGGGUGAACUGGAGGGCGAUGUCACAGUCCAUUCAUACCAAACCUGCAUCACAUUCCAUAGGAGCUCAUUCAAAGACUCAUUAUUCAUAAAAAAAAAACUACAAACUCAGGAACAGAUGCACAAAACACACUAAUUAUAUGCUCAAGAUUCUGACCAUGCAUAAUGGCCUUGAGAUUUAUACAUUCUUUGUAAACAAUAAAGGAUUGUCUUUUAAGGGUUUACUAAUCGUUACCUUGCUAGGACGGCAACAACGCCAAAAAUGUACUUCAAGAGAAGAACCAGGAUGUAGAGAAAUGGGUGUCCUCAGUGGGAAAAAUAUUGGAAACCUGAGUACAACAACAUACCAGGUCAAAUAGUGCAAUGAUUUACAGAUACAAGAAACCAAUAAUUUUUGGGUUCAUCUAGAUGAUAAACAGCAUGUAAGUCAUACAACUACCACAUAAGUUUGAGCUAUGAUAAACAGCAUGUAAUGUAAGCCAUAUAACUACCAAAUAAGUUUUAGCCAUGCUUUGCUUCAUGUGUUUACCAUUUGUAGCAUAACCAUGAAAAUAUAAAAUAAACAAAAACAUUUUAACAAUUGGAAAGAAAAAGCAAACAUAGGAUGACAAGCAUCAACCGCACAAGAAAAGGAUAGUAGGGAUCCACACCAGCUAAACAUGUUCGGUGUUGACGUUGACGGUUCAAUGCCAAGAUGAACUUCUUUGUAUAGAACAGCAUCAAAAUAGCCAGCAAAUCCUGAAGGUGUAGAGAAAAGGGUAAAUCAGACAUUUCCUAAUACAAACGUCUUAAUUAAAUGUGUGCCUGUGUUUUUCUCAGCAUAAAUACUCAGAUCUUAGUCUGCUCAAAGAACAAAUUCAAGUAGCGGUUGUUAAACAUGGCAGGUGCAAUAAACCAAAAUCAUUGCAUUGCAUAACCAACCCACUAAUGCUUUCUCAACCCCGAAACAAAAUCCAUAUCUUCCAACAAUGUUCAGCAAGAUUUUACAAUAUACAAAUUUUGACUAUUUGCAUUCCUCGACUUUUCCCAUCCUGUCAUGCAUACUAUCAUUACAUGUGCAUGCCUCAAGCACUUUUUUUAUUGUUCAUUUUUGCCUCCGUAACGAUAAAUGAUGUUUAACAUUUCUUGAGAGUUUUCCAGGGUAAAUUCAUUUCAUAUCGACAAAUGAUACCCAAAAAAGAGGCCCAAUAAGUAUUGAUCGGAUUUUAACAUGAACCAUUCAUAUUUUUAAAAUUUCCAACAUUAUGGCACAUGAUAAUCAUUCAAGAGUCAGCAGUACAAUCAGAGGAGAAUUCAGUCACAUUAACUAAAUGCAAACACCCUAAUGACAUUCUUGAAUCAUUCAAGAAUACCUAUUUACCAAAAGAAAAAUGAUGCCACCACAUACCGUGAAUCAUGGCCGAGCCAGUAUCACUGGAUACUCCAAACUGCAACUUCGUGUACCGGUUAUUGCUUUUGUCAAUUGAGCGAUUUGGAUGAAUAAACGUGAACACCUAUCUUAGUUGAAAACAAUAUAUCAAGUCGUGGUGAAACAGUUGAUGAAUUAAGACUGUUUACAAGUUAAUAACAUCAAAUGCGCCUGAGUGAAAAAAUCUCACAGGUUGAGGAGGAGCAAGUCUUGCAAUGUUGUGCAAUUUAACAACAUAAGCAGUUUCAAAGUGUGCAACAUCUUUAUGCGACUUAACCUGAAACAUAACCACAAUAAGUUGCUAAGGAAUCCUCAAAACAGAUAGUAUUGGGACAUCUUGGGCACAAAGACACAAGCAUACAUCAUUGUAAAGCUUUGAAGCAGUCACCGGUUGGAUGAAACUCGUGUACCUGAAAAGAGGCAUACAAACUUUUAUGAGAGAAACACUAAUGAAAAUUGAAAACUAUUGAUGCUGAGCACUUAGAUAAGAAAUCUGGACAGUUUCCCCACAAGAUAUCCAAAUGUCAAUACUGAUUUUUGAACAAAUCCUGUCCCGAGGGGGGCACCUUUCACGUAAAACUUCAAAAUAAAUGUAUACGUACGAUGAAGGUAUUGAGAUUCCAUCGUCCUUCAAAAGUCUCUGAGCUCCAUCAAGGCACUCAGGAGAUAGCUCAUUAUCACCAAAUGAACCCAAUAAUUCACUCACCUAUUACACAAUUGAAGGCAAUGGUUUUAAGAAAACCCAAAAACAAAUAGAUGAUUAUUCAUGAUAAUACUUGCAUACCAAAAUGUCAGCUUUCUCAGGAGCAUCCCAGUAACGCAUAUCACUUGAAAUUAUGGAAACAAUGUUUUCCCACCCCUCUAGUUUAACCAAGCUCUGCUCCAACAAACACAGAUACGUCAAUAUAUAAAAUGCAGACCAUGAAAAAGGGGAGGGGGGGGAGAGAAGUCUAAUUCAAACAAACACCUAUAUCAACUUUGCAACUUAGCACAGAAAGAAAUACAAUAAAGAGAAUUUGCAACUCACAUGCAGUGUAACGACUGCAUUUGGAUUUUUUUCCACAGCGUAGACUUUAAGCUUGCGCCCAGUUUCUUCAGCUGCCUGCAUAUGAGAAGGAGAUAUAGAGUGAGCAUCAAAAUGAUCUGCUACAUGUAAAAUCCAGUCUGGAUAUAAACAAUUUAGUCCAAAAGUAAUAUAUAUAAGAUAGAUAAGGCACCUGCAAUGAAGCCCUUACAAGAGGUCCACGUCCUGCUCCUACAACCAUCAAUACCUUGCCAGAACAAAUAUGAAGCCAUGUCAUGACCUUCAGAACUUUUGUCAUCAAACUUAAUAAAGCACAGUUACAAGUGAGCAGCUUACAGUGGUCACUGAAGAUGCCUUGUCAUCUGGAACCCUGUCCUGUAAAGCUUUACAAAUUGCCCUUUGGUACUAGAAAAGGUGCCAAAAAAAAAAUUUACAAUUGUACGCAAUAAAAGAAACUACACCUUCUAGCAAACAUUUGAACCAGUAGGUAACAAAAGUAAUUUAGUUUGCAAUGUCUUCCUUUUCCAAAGAACCCCUGGCCCCUCCAAAACGUAGAUAGAAUAAUUACAUAUUAAAUAAAGCACUUCAUUCCCCCAAUUAUUUCACACUACGAUGGCACACAAAGAAAAUAACGAUAUCAAAAUAUCUGAAAAGAUUUUUAUGCAUUUAUUUGCAAAGGCAGGCAUACCUGAAUGUAUUUCAUCGUGUCCUUUUCAAAUGUCUCAUAGGUUUGAGCCUCUAGAUUAUCCAUGAGAGGCUGCAUUAAGAAUAGCAGAUUUAGCCUAACUUGAAAUUGUUUUAUAAGAGGAUGGGCAAUCACUACGUGUGUAGGAUUCAAUAUUUCAACAAAUAGGAAAGGAACACUUAAGAAAAAUACUAGUACCAAUAUAAUAAUACAAGAGAGCACUAGGCAAAGAAACUGUACCUGUAAGGGUGACUGCAGGAAAUCCCUGUAACCAAGCUGGCAUAAGAAACUUAAAAGGAUCAAGAAAUGUAAAACAAAUAACUGAUACACAUUCAGAGAGAGACAGACAGACAGACAGACAGACCUCAAACCGUUCUUGCUCAGGAAGGGGAUCCAUCCUUUGGUAGAGAUAACCAACAUAAUCCAAAUACGGCCUCAGGGGAUGUUUCUGGACACCUGAAUGUCAAGAAUGCUUUAUCACAAUUCAUUGUGUUAAACUGAAAGUGUUUUUCUAGUCUUAGGUAUCAUAUAGCUUGUUUCUUGAUAUUUGUUCUGUGUUAGUGGAAUAAACAUAUGUUUUUUUUCCAUUCAUUGUUUCCUUCAUAUUUGCAUCUGGAUCUAUAUGAUCCUGAGGAUCAGAAUCAAAGAAAGUAAUUUAGAGAACAAAGCGUAGCACUCUAAAAGCCAGUCAGAACUCAGAAGCACUUAUAUGAAACUAGUCAUGACAAGCAAUAAAAAGCACUUGAAAACGAAACAAUGUUCAUAUAAUGGCGUAGCUUUUCUGACUCAACUAGUUCAAAUACUUGUCAAACGAAAUUAUUACUAUUUCAAUGAUCUACUAGCAGUAUUUAAGACAAUUCACUUGUAAACUGACGGUAGGUCUUACCGUCAACAUUAUUAUCAUUAUUAUUGGCAGCUAAAUCUGAAUUUAUCCUGGGGAGACUGUGUACUGGUUCUCCAGAUAGAACUAUCUGAAAAUAAAUUUCGCAUUCCAAAGAUUAGCAAACAUUGCAGGAAGUUGACCAUAAGAUCUAAAACUAAUGAUGUCUAUGAAGAAAUUUUGCAACUACGAAACCAUAAUUGGGUGGAACUUGCUGGAGAUUUUAAGUAACUUUGGAGCACUGUCCAAGAAAAUAUUUUGAACAAACAAAAAACAAAAUGAAGUAUGGGGUUGCUUAUACUGCAAGUGCAGGGAAAUGGGAGAAGGAACUUCAACAGAACAAAAUACUGUUGAUAACUCCUUCAUCAAUACCUGUAUAGAAUGAUUGAAAAACCCACUGACUAGCUUUUGGUGGCGCUUUGACAGACAUGGAUAACCCCGUGCAUUUGUUAAAAAGCACUGGCAAAUAAACAAGACCAUUGUAAGAAAAUAAGCAGUAAUGAACUUGAGCUUUCCUUAAUACACCAAUCAGCAUAUAAUUACAUCAGUACUGAUUAUGGCUGCUCUAACAGACUCCCCAAACCAACGUCCAAGUGAGUUUGCAGAAGGUAGUGAAUUCCUGAUGAAAAAGAAAGUUCGCUCAAAAUUUAAAAAAUAUGUAUGCUACUUCAGGCACAGUGAAAACAAAAAUCAUAAAUCCGCCAAGUUAUACAAGAAUGGUCAAUGCUAAACUUACAAAACAUCAAGGGCAACAGACAAUUGACUGUGAUGUUCACAUAGCAGACGAAAUGAAUUCCAAAUCUCCCAGGAAUCAUCCUGCAAGAGGAAAAAAAAAUUAAGGAAAAUGAGGUUUAUCCUCUGGUAUGUCAAUCAUCAUACCACCAUAAGUGAAAUAAUAAUCAAAAUAACAAAAAAGGGGGAGAUAAAUAAAGGUUAUACAUAUUAAGGAAACCUCAAGUUCAUGCAGAAGGUCUACACCCUGUAUAAGUUUGACUACCCUACUCAAUCUACAACUACACAAAAGAGGCAACUCUCCACUCCUCACCUCCCUCUUUGCUACAAGACAUCUAACAACAAAGCAUUUACACAGAUUCCAACAAAGCACCCAAUUUGCUGGUAGAUUUAGCACAAGACUUGUCAUUCUGGUGGUUCAACAAGGGCCAUAUGCAACAAAGGUUGGACUUCUAUGUACAGUGCAACAUUUAUGGGCCAAGAGUCAUGAUAUACGUUCAAACUCAGUGGCUGGAAACUAAGAGGUUCCAUCAAAAGAAGGAAAAAAAAUCAUCAAAAUGGAAAAUCUAUUUUGAGAACUUAAACAUUCCUUCAAGAUGAGAUGGAGAUCUAAGCAUAAUCAGAAGGGACUUCACUCACCAAAUUACUAGAGUUCACCACAUCCAUCGUAUCGUUGUCUGUCUUGACCAAUGGAAUCCGCAGCCACAACUAUAACAGAGCAUAACAAGAAAUAAUAAAACCCAGCUUCAAAAGUAGAAUACACAAAGAGGUUGAAAGAUGUAAACUGUUUUGGAUUGACAAAUGUACCUGCAUACUGUUUAGUCCUUGUAAAAUCUGAUUGACACACCUAGCAUAAUUAGCACAGGAAUUCCCCUUUGGAGCCGGAAGAAGGCAUGCCUACACCCAACAAUAGAUAAGAAUAGAGGGCCAGCAAGAAAACAAAAUUCAGUUAAUAAUAUCCAGAAUCAAUUUGGUGUAGCAAAGCACAGGAAAUUUUUAAGCAUGGCCUGUAAUAACAAUUCCAAUAUUUUGCAACACUAUAUCCAUAUUUACAUAAAACUAUACCCACCUGCAGGGACAAAUGAGAAGCCCAUGCUAUCUCUUGCUUCAAGGUAAUUUCAGAAUCGACCCGGAGGAUCUCAUCUUCUGAAUCUAAGUCAAUCCAUGAGCUAAUUUUUCCUGAAUAAAUUCAAGAAACCACAGUGAGCAGUCAAUGUAUUAGGAUGCAAGAAGAUAUGCGGUUGAAAAGUACACAGAAUGUAAGCUUAUUAAAACAACUCCAUUCUUAUUCAGCCAAGAAAUCAUACGGCAUAAUGCAGAGAAACGUAACCAGAAAAGCUAGACUUAGCCAGCUUAACCAUCAACCUUAUUGGCUUACAGCCAAGACAUUAUCCAUCCCGAUGCAGAGGAAUCCCACAUAAAAGUAACCACAAAGCUAGACUCAUACAGCUGAAAGAUCACCCAUAACUACUAAUUCCAAUCUGAAAACGGAAACCACACUGCCAAUGAAAAGUUUCUUUGAGAUGCAGAUUAUGAUGAUCACAGAGCCAUGCACUUGCAUUGCAAUAAGAAAAAAUAAUAAUUAGAAAACAAUCAAAUAAGCAUAACUUCAUAAAAGAUACCAACUACCAGUGACAUCUUUCAACAACAAUUAAUGAAUUUCAAGCACAUUCUUAUACUGAAAAUUGAGAAACAUCCAACCCAGCAAGUAAAUCAAACCAAAGUUCCACAUAAGAGUCCUAAUUGAUUCGGAGGCCUUUCAAACAAUAUUAACACAUAAAAGAAAAACUUUGAGAAUAAAAUAAAUGGGUCAGACUGACCAUGGAGGAGACAAUGUAACACAACAAAUUUGUCUACAUAAGUCCAUACCCACAACAUGACUGCUCCAUUGUGAAGGACUCAAAACCAAAUCUGACCCAGCAAAUGGCAGAACACCAGAUACUCCACUUUCUUUUUGCAUUAAGCUUGGUUGAUAAGCAGGAUCCAUCUACAUCAUCAGGUUGAACAAGAAUCACUAUCCAUUGUCCAAGUUGUGUAUCAGAGGAUAAAGAAAGGGAACAGGAAAAGGAAUGAAGAAACAGACACAGACAAACACCUUAGUGAUACAAUCAAGAUGCUGAACACAAGUCAAAAGAUUAACUGCAUACAAACAUGUACUGCUUUUGAUAAAGGCUUUCAUGACCAAAAAGGCAAGCAAAUAAUUCAAAGGACUUCAAGAAGACAUUACAAUCCUACAUGUUGAAUGUAUAUCAUUAUUUUCUAACAUAAUCUUCAGGGGAAAAUACAUAAUUGAAAAAGACAAAUUAUAUCCAAUAAACAUUAACACACAGUUAUGAAGCAUACAAGGUAGUUUACUCUCCCCAUGUGGAAAGAGCCUCAUUAUACCAUGAGAGGCAAGCAACAUAUUCAUUUUAUGUAACAUGUUUGUCUAUGGAAGUAAACAAAUAGUACCUUUGUGGCUCAAAGAAAAGUCCUCAUACCCACCAAUGAUGAGAAAAAUUACAAAGGUAUCACAAAUUUAACAAUGUAGUUUACAGCCUAAAGGUGAAACCAGAGCUACGCUUCACCAUUCAAGACCACCAACAAAGCCUUACUGUCGGUGAGCUUACUGACCAUUCACACAAAACAGAAGCCAUCUCUGGCUGUAUGUGACUGGCUAAUUAGCCACCAUGAGCAAAGAAAUUGCACAAAUGUCCAUGAAGUAACAUGAAAUUCAACGCAUAGUCUUCUAAACAACUAAGCAACACACAAAUAAUUGACAAGUAAAUCAUCGGCAUUUACAGUAAUUUUAAUCACAAAUUGACGUGAAUGUAGUUAGUGGACGUAGAGUGAAGCUGCAUAGUCGAGCAGCUGCACAAGCAACAGCCACUAGCGCAGCAUUGUUAUAGGUGAGCUUACUGACCAUUCACAUCAAAAGAGCAGCUGUAAAGCCGAUAUGUGACUGGCUAAUUAGCCACCAUACAGUCGUUCGAAAAUAAACGACAUCGAAAAUAUUGAUCAUUUCUAAGCAUAAACAGAAGAAUCAAAUGAAAUACGAAACAAGAAAAAUAAUUGUAAAUAAUAAAAAUUAAAAAAAGAAAAGUACGGACCAGAGGAGCCACGACGAAAUCGAAGGAGCCAUGGGAGAGAUUGAAAGCGAGGACAUGAGGCAUGUCAUCGUUGAACUGGGUCUCCACGCCACAAUAGCGAGAUUCGCUCUUAUCUCCUGCUCUUUCACCAAGCGGCAUUUUGCUCUGAACAACUUUACUUGCCCAAAGAGGAGAGAGAGAGAAUGAGAGUGUGCAAGCAGAGCAGGGUUUGGGUUUUGGUGGGGGUUUUGAUUGAUGUCAACGGAAAUGGAAUGCUGCCUCUAAAUAGGGUUUGCUUGCGGAGCUUAGGACUAGGGUUUUGGGUAGCCGGGUUUAACCGAAUGUUUAACGGGUUUUAAAAAAUUGGGUAACCCAUGAAGUAAAGGCCCAACCUAAGAACCAGGCCGAAUGGGUUUUUACAAGAUUCUCCUUUCUAGUAUGGGAGGAAUAGGGUGUUGUGUGAAUCAUCAUCAACUUAUGACUACCACAGUCGGUCCAAAUACAUGAAUAUUAGUUUUAAUGUAAUUAUCUUUUUUUCUUCUUUUUUUUUUUGUCUAUUUGGCAGUAUGUUCACAUUGUCUUCUCAGUUGAGAAUUAAGUGCUAUGCAUACACAACAUUGAUACGAUAAUUUAGAUAUGAAAUAUGUGUAUAUGCAUUCGGUUUUUAUGUUUAUAUAAAUGUGUGUAUUUGCCUUUAGUUUUUAUGUUAAGUUUGUAGGGAUAUGUGUAUAUGAUAUUUGGUUGGUAUUUGUAGGAUUCAAAAGUAAUUACAGAUAAUUACCUGCAUUUCAUAAGUGGUUCACUCAACUUGAGAUGCCCUUCAAUUUAUUUUGCUUGCGUUUGCACAAGUCUGAUCAAUCAAGUUGAGGGUGGAUAAUCCAUGAAUUUUCAGUUGAUUCACUCAUCAGCAACUGGAAAUUCAUCCGCUAUCCAUCCUAAACCCCGAUCGUUCAUAAAUGUGCAAUCACGAGCAAAUAAUUUGAACCGCAUCUCGAAUUGAGUGAACCACGUAUGAAAUUCAGCUAAUUAUUUGUCAAUGCAAUCUAUCUACUCAUCAAUCCUACAAAUACCAACCAAAUAUUAUAUACACAUAUCCCUCCAAAACUUAACAUAGAAACUAAAGGCAUAUACACAUGGGGCAUGUUUACGUAUUAGUAAUGGGUAUGGGAGGAAAGUGAAUGAUUUCCAUUCCCGACUUCUCCUGCGUUUACUUGUAAUCAGGAAUGAAAAAAUAAGUGGGCCCCACCUCAAAAUCAGUAAUCACAUCCCCUCAGAACUAGGUAUCAUAUCAACUAGGGGGGAGUAGUCGAUACGAUUCCCAUUCCUAUUUUCUCUUAGUAACUUCCGAAAAUACCAUUACCACUUUACCAUAAUCCCAAAACACCCCAGACCCUAAAAAAAAUAAAAACUCACACCAAGAAGUUCCAAGACGCUCAAACCCUAAAAAAAAAUAAAAACUCAUUUCCAAGAAGUUCCAUGUAUUUAAUGUAUGAAUAUUAUGCAGGUUAUUAUUAUUUGAUUGUUUACUAGUUACGUAGGUGAAACAUAUAUAUUUAUUGGAGUUUAUUUUUUCGUUUGAAAUUGGCUCUGGACAAAGGUGUUAUUAACAUUAUCAUUGAACUGGGCUCUUGUUAUUCAUCUUGUUCAGCAUAUUGAUUCCUCAUGUUUGCACCGCCUUACUGGUUUGUUGCAGGAUUAGCUUGGUCUCCUUAGCCAAUUUGAGAAUUAUAUAUGUGUUGUGGUGAAAAUGUCCAGGGCAUUUUAAUAAUCAAAUUAAUUUGGAUUUUAUUCAUGAAAAUUAGUAAACAAUAACAAUAGGAAUCAACCUCAUUCAUUUGCUAAUUCCAUAUGUUUAGUAAACAGCAUAAUGGGAAUGAUUCUUCCCAUACCGAUUCAGUAGUUCUCCAAUUCCUAAAUUCUCUGAUUCCUUACUUUCUUCAUUAUUGAUACUUAAACAAGCCCAUAAUUUGAUAUGAUAAAGUACACACAUAGUGUCACAAUAUGCGAUAAUUUUUUCAAAUGGUGUGGUAGUUACACUGCGUUUGGAUCAGAAAGUCCAAAAGGGCAAGGAAAAUUAGUUAUAUAGUCUUGAGAAAUGGUUGAGCAUCUUGUAUAAUAAUAUAAAAAAAUGUCGAGUAUACUUCAAUUCAAAAUAAUGACAAAUUUAUUCUAAAAGAUGGAUUUACAAUUUAAAUUUUAUAAAGUUUAUUUUUUAGUUAACCUAUUAAAUAUAGUUGGUAUUAAAUAUGAAAUUUACAAUUUAGCUUGAUGGAUGUCUCAAUGCGUAAAUGGGUACUGAUGCGCAGGCGGCAACCGCGGUGGUUGUUGGUUGGUGUGUCAAGGUGGCGAUGAUGAAGGUUGUGGUGGUGAAAAUGGAGAUGGUGGUGACAGCCAUGUCAACAGGUGGGAUUACAUUAGCCUGAUUUCUCCACCCAGGUUUAAAAAUGCGUUCACCUAAUGAAAUUACUAGCAACUAGUAGAAAGAAAAUCUGAAAGCAAAGUUGAAGAGGCGAAAUUAAAAAGUCUAUUCAUAUGCUUCAGUUUGCCAAAUCCACAACCACAAACAGAAAGUACUGAACAAUGUCGAAUAGCAUCUACAUUCAUUUUCACUACAUAAAGUUGCUUGACACACAAGCUUAUGAGCAUAUAUAUGAAAUGGAAGCGUCCGAACGAAACAAAGAGACAUCCAAGUGCCUCUUGCGAAGGGAACAUAAUUCAAGCACUUCCUUUCACAUUCACACGUCCAUCAUAAUCAGUUGCAGAAACUUGUCCGUACUCACCCUUAACAUCCUCUUCAAUCUCCUCGAAGUAAUCCUCUCGGGCAUUGUCAGCCAACAUAAGGGCAACCAACCACAACAGUGAUGCAUCAAGGGAUACAAAAGCGCCGCCACCUAGGAGUCCAGUCUUAGCAGUUGGGCAAGCGGUAUCAAGAUUACGAUGAACAUUUCGUGAUCGAUGAAGUUGCUCGGUUAUUGUGGGCCAUAGCAACAGAGCUGCAGCUAAUCCGGCUGUAAGCCUGUGUAAUGUGACCACCACCAAAGAAACACAAUUAGAGAGAGGUGGAUCAGCAUUUUGCAGAAAACCUUGAAUGAUACAUUUUUGGAAUAUUAUAUGACAUGAUGCCCAACUUGAAUAGCUACUCUAAAUUAUAUGAUGUUCUAAAUGGCUGCAAGAUCCAUAACUAGAGAGUUCGAGCAAGAACAACAUCUUCUUAUAGGCACAAUUUAUACAUAUUAUGCAUCAACAUAAUAAGCCUUGAACUAUUCAAAUCUAAGUACGCUUAUAUAGAUAUAUGCACAACUGUGAACACUUACAGAGAAAUGUUGAAGAAUACAACAAAACUAGUGCUUCGGAACAAAGCGGCCUGUGGGAGGGCCUUUCCUUUAUAUGGGUAAAACAAUGACAAGAACCCAGCCACUGUAGAUACCAGGAGGAAGGCAAAAGACAGAUAUCCCAGGACAACUGAUGGGUCAGCAGGAUACUUGCAGAACACAACACCUUUCCCCGGAAUUGGAGUUCCAGAUGCAGGCUGUCAAGAGGUCAGAAAACAAAGAAUCUAAUUAGUAGCCAAGAAUACAUGUAACUAGUUCGAAUCAAAUCAAAGAAAUAUAUGAAUAAGACUGGAUACAUUUUCUGCUAUAAUUUCCACCACCCUAUGGUAAAUAAUCUAAAGAACUGUUCUUUUGUUCUUUUUUGUUUUUUGGGAUUAAUCAGAAUCACUCGGUCGUUGACUGUUAAUCAGAAUUCAUUUACCCACCAAAAUUCUUUUCAAGCUUAAAGGCAGCAGUAACUGUUGCCUAGAACACAGACACAGAGGAAGAAAUAUUUGGGACAUAUGAAUUAGAAAGCUGAAAACAACUACUCUUUCCUUGCACUCUUGAAUUUCAACCAUGAAGACACAAAUAAUUCCUACAGCCUACAGCAAAAAAAAUUCGCAGGGGACACUCAAUGUUACUAUUUAACCUUCAAUUUCAAUCAGGGUGUUUUUAUUUGUGCACAUGAUUCUCCUGUCAAAAGACCAAAAGAGAAUAUCAUGGCUAUGGUGCAUGAGUUCCAAGACUGCAAGUUGAGUAAAAUUUACAGGGAAAAGUCCGAAAAAAGACCCAAAACUCAAAUGAAACCAAUCAAUCUUCUUCUGAUACAAAAUUCACACCAAUUUCACCCAACAAACUCUUGAACAUGCUAAAAUUUUGCAACCACAUGAUCGCAUACAUACAGAAACUUGGAGUGUAUAUUGCAAAUCACCUUCUUGUUUUCGGCAAUCACUCCUAAAACGAACGAGAGCACACCGAAAAAGGCCACUGUCAAUGACAUCUGCUUCACGGUGACAGCCAUAGCCGCACAAUCACAAGAUUACCAACCUGAAACGGAAAAAAUAAAAUAAGGGUUAAAAAAUCAAAAUUCAACAAGAGAAAAACCCAACAACAAAAAUUCAACCAAAUCAAAAUUGAACCAAAACCCAACAAAAACAAAACAAAACAUUACCUGAUAGAAGGGAGGUGGGGAAAUUGAAUAAUUUUCUGAACCAAUUUCACAGAGAAAAGUGUUCCUCUCUCUCUCUCCUUAUCUGUCUCUGUAGGCCGAUUUCGCUUUAGUAUUCUCCGUCUUUGAGAAUCCGAGAGCAAGAGCAGAGCAAUAGGCGGACGGUAAAAAGGGAGACUUUGUAUUUGUCUUGUAUUUAUGUGGAAGAUCCUAAUCCUACACAAACAAGUCAACCGGAUCCUGGAAUCCCUCCUUUCUAUCCGGUGCGUGCCAGCCCAGCCAAGCUGAGAGAGAGAGAGAGAGAGAGAGAGGGAGUUAACUUCUCGUUAGACUACUGGUUUGGCGCGUUGGUUAUCUCAAGCAAGGAAAGUUGUGGUUGUACACACCGUGAUGAAUCUGGACCGUGUGUAGGCCCAGGUUCGUAGGCCUGUGGGACCCGGCUCAUUAGUUUUGGAAAUGUUUGAUUGAUGAUGAUUGAUAAGCUGGGCAACGAUCUUAUUAGGAAACCGGUCACAAUUGUUGACGAUCGGACGGUUAUAAAUAUCGUGAAGAUGUGGACUUUAAUUAUUUGUUAUUCUUGUGAAUCUUUAAGGUGUCCAAAUUGCAGACUACGUAGUGAAAUGUUGAACAAUCUUGACAAGAUUCUUCUGCAUUUGGAUAUACGUAUGUGGGAAUAUUCAUCAUUAUUUAUUUGCUUUAUGAUCAAUGAUUCAUAAGCAGAUUCAUUAAUUUUAUAAAGAAUUCAUUUAUGUAUAUUUUAAUAUUUAAGAAAUAACAAUAGGAUACCAUUUUGUUAUGGUACUAGAUUGUUUGGUAAGGUAUUACCUGUACAAGUAUUUUAUUAUGAUGAUGUUAUUUUCACUCACAUGUUUAUUUUUUAUUUUAAUACUAGUCUUUGCACGCGCUUUUGUACCUGCGAAAGCUUUUAUUUUUUAAAAUUUUAAAUUUAAUUUAGAAUUAAAAAAGAUAAUGGGUAGUUGUGUUCCAUAAAAAUAGAAUUUAUUAUCUUAUUUUUCUUUUAAUUUUAAUUUUUUUAAUAUGAAAAAAGUGAAUUUACCAUAUUAUCCUCAUUUAAUUAAUAAUUUUAAUUAUUAAUGUUUGGAUUAACUAAGAGUAUUUUCUGAUAUUUUGAAUGUUUCACCAUUCUCUGACUUUUGCUUUAUAUAUACUAACCUCUCUGCACGCGUUUCCGCGCAUGCGAGAGGUUUUUUUAAAAAAAAAUUAAAUUUAUUUUAGAAUUAAAAAAGAUAAUGGAUUUGUGUUCCAUAAAAAUAGGAUCCAUUAUCUGAAUUUUCUUUUAAUUUUAAUUUUUUUUAAUACGAAAAAUUGUGAAUUUACCAUAUUAUCCUCAUUUAAUUAAUAAUUUCAAUUCUUAAUGUUUGCAUUAACCAAAGGCAUUUUCUGGUAUUUUAAAUGUUUCACCAUUCUCUGCCUUUUGCUUUAUAUAUAUAUAGAUAUAGAUAUAGAUAGAUAUAACAAAAAACUUUUAUUUUUUAUUUUAAUAAACGAUAGUAUAAUUACAAAAUACUUUUAUAAGGAAUUAAGAUAUUCACACUAAUUUAUAGCGGGGCAAUGCACCUAUAACAAGCCUGCACGAAUCUUUAACGUUAAUUGGUAUAUAACAAAUAACAAUUAGAUCGAACAAUAAAUAAAUAAAUUUUGGUAAGAUAUUACUUAAAUAUUUAUUAGGUGGUAGUUAUUUUCCAUCGACUUCCUUGAAAAACAAAAAUUACAGAUUAUUAUUAUAUCUUCUUUUUUUGGGCCAGCUUCGUGCUUAAUUUACAUAGAUGAUAUUUAUAUAUAAUUGGAUUUUUUGCCAUUUCAGUGUUAUAUUAUUGACACCAGUGUGCUUCUAUCACAAACGGGUUUAUUGGUUAUGGUUAAAGGGUUUUUAUCACAAACGGUUUUUAACUUCGUUAAAAUUUCUCAUUUUGGUCACCAAAUUCUCAAGCCAAUCAAUGUGGUCUUUCAUUUUUUUUGUCUACACAACAAUUUGGUCAAUAUUAUCGCAUUGACAAAAAAUUUGUAAAAUUGUUCACGUGUAAUCGCGUGACCAACUUUAUAGAUACAUUAUCAUAAAAAUAUAGCUCAUUUUAGUUAUAUAACUCACAUUUUUGCUCAACAAGGCUCACAUUUGGGGUCUAUUAAGGAGAGUAAAUAGUCUUAUCGAGCAAAAUUCGUGAGACUUACAAUGUGUCAUGUGUGGAUAGGUUGCAUUUUUACAAAAAUAUGCCUUAUGUUGGUCAUGUGACCAAUUUCAAUGAAGAUGUUGAUGAAAUGCAAAGAAAUGGACAAUGGGCCAAAAGAUUAAUGACCACAUUGAUUGAUUUGAAAAAUUGAGGAUUCAAAUAAGGACUUUUGAAAAUUUUAGGGACCAUAUCUGAUAAAAACCUUGAAAUAGUAAAUUUUGAAUAAUUUUUUAUGAGAUUAUAAUGUCCACAAUCAUGCUAUCUAUUUUUUAGUUAAAAAUUCGCCAAAAACACUAGAAAGCUAUUUUAGGAGCUCUCUAUAAAAUUUCAACUCCACCAUACUCCCUAAUUAAAAAAUUCAUAAAUAUAUUUUUAUAUUUUUCAAUAAAGUGUUGACACAAAAGCAACAACAAAAAAUAGUUGGCAUUAAAUAAAUAAUUUAAAUACUAUUCAAAUAAAAGAGCAUUAAAUUAUAGGAAGCCACUAGGAGUCCUUUCUAUCUCCUUAGAUUUAGGAGCUCCUAGAGGUCUUCCUAUUUUAGGAGGUGGAUAGGGAGCAUGAUUGAAGUUGUAUUUUUUCAAAUUCCUCCAUAAAAUUUGUCUAAUUAGGUGUUUUAGGGAGUCUGUAGAUGCUCCCAUUUGGUUCAUGGGAAAGUAGGCUUGGGGAUAGGAAAUCAAUUGCUUUCCCAUGUUUAGCAAGUCCAGGCAUAUGAAAUGGUUGUCUUACAUAUGGGAAAGUAGCGGGAAAGUGAAGCCAUCCUCCCCUCUUGGGUUUUGUUUUCCUCCUCAUGGGAAAGUUUGAGAAAAUUAGCCAAUAAUAAAUGCACAUUUUUCAUGACCAUUUCGUCUCCAUUCAUAAUUUAGAAUUACAAUAUAGCAUUAAAUGCAAUUUUUUAAAUUUGAUUUUAUAUAGGUAUAAUUGAAAAAUUAAACAAACUUUGUUUUACAUUCCUACACAAACAAAACAUGUGAAAGGAAAUAAAGUGGUAUUUCGUUGUUAUUUUCUCAGGAGUAUCAAACAUAGGAAAUGAAUCUUCCAUUUCCCACCCCUUCGAAAGACAUGAAAAAUGAUUUUCCAUCAAAUCUUUUCUGCGAACCAAACGAGUAAGAUUGAAUUGUUGAUUCGUGUUGUUUCAUAUUCUACUUGCGGUAAGACAUUUGUAUAUAAACAUGUUGUUUUAGAUUAUAGUUGGUUGAUUAUACUCAUAUAUUAAUGAUAACAGUUGGUCAGAUAAUGUAGCAAGUGGUUCAGUAUAGUCAAAUAAUCGUGAUAGUGUUUUAUAAGAUUCUCUCUUAUGGUAUGGGAGGAAUAGGUAAUGUGUUAUCGUCAUCCUACAUUUGACAGUCAUAGUCAAUCUAAAUCCAGGAAUUAGUUUCAAUGUGAUUAUUUUUUUGUUUAUUUGUCAAUACGUUCACAUUGCAUUCUCAUUUGGAAUUUUAGACAGAGAGGGACAUAUGAGUGUAAUGGACCAACUAGAAUCCGAAACAACAUGUAAUUGCAAACCUUUGCAAUCCACGACUAACUUGAAGUCCCUUAUGCUACGGCGUCAAGAAGCUAUUGAACCUUUGCUGCUAAAAAACAUAAAAUAUGGGUCCAGCUCAUCUUAAAUUUGUGGUCACAAAUAAAUAAUAUUAGCAUGUCUGUGGAAAUUUGUCACAAGACUCAUCCUAAAAUUGGUCAAAUGCACCACUGUUAAGGUCAUGAAGUUAUUUUACGCCUUCACAAAGAUUACAUGGUUCGAAAUAAGUGCGAAUCUCAUUCAUGAAUUAUGAAUUAUAAAGGAUUUGGUGUGCAUGUAAAUUGUAGUACUUUAAAGACAAUAUAUUUUAAAUUUUGCGUUUUUGCACUUUUGAUUUCAAUUGGUUAAAUGAGGUUUUUUUUUUUGAAAGUCACAUUGGUUGAAUGAGGUAUUGGAGUAAAUUAAGUAAUAUAAACAAGUAAUUAAUUCCUUUCAUCAAUCAUUUUCACCUUAUCUCGUCCAUUUCUUUUGCUAUGCUAAAAGAAAAGGCUUUUCUAAUCUUGAAGAAAAAAAGUUAAUGGCAGUUGUCCGGCAAAUUUCUCACGAAGAUCUUAGGUUGCAAUAUGAGAGUUUAAUUUUCCUGUGACCAAACUCUCUGUGCCCGUCUUGUGACCUUCUUAUUCUUUUGACAUGUGUCUUCACUUAACGAAAAUUUAACUAUGUUAAGUCUCUAAUUUAUAUCAAAGUAAUAAUUAAUAUAAUUAUAUUAAAAGUUUGUUUUUUAAGAACUAGCUGAGUUUUCAGAUUUUUUUUUAUAAGGAAAUUGAGUUUUCAUAUGAGAGCGCAGGAAAGAUGAAGGGACAAGGAAAACAAUUUUCCAGUGUAAGGUGGUUAAAAGGCUAACGGGGUUUUGUACGUCAAAGCAUGGCGGCUUUAUUGCUGGCCCUCGACAACUCGAGUAGAAGCUCGGCCGGUCCGCAAAUUGCAGUUUCGGCAAAGAUUUCUAUGGCGAGUUGGACAACUUUCAGGUGUUGGAUAACGGUGGUUUCAUCUGGGUUCCAUAGAUCAGAGCCCAUAGGUGUCACCAAUUGAUGUGCUGUUGUUGGAAAUUAACUAGGCAAACGGGCGUCACCUCAGUGGUAUCAACAAUCUGAUUUGAUCAAUGAAAAAAACACAACAAAGAAAAUCUUGUGAAUUUAAGAUGGGCUCAUUGAUGUUGAUGACGGGACAAAAAUACACAUGCAAAUUUACUACUUUAUUGUUGUGGAAAAUUUUUGCUUGAUAAUUUGUCGCUCAUAGUGAAUAUUUGGGCACAUACCAAAGAGAUGAAGUUAAUAGUGUUAACUUUAUGUUAAAUGAACGAACACAUGUCAAAAGAAUAAGAAAGUCACAAAGUGGCACAGAGAGUUUGAUCACAGGAAAAUUGAACUCGCAAUAUGACAAGUGUUGUUGUGACACUCCACAUCAUAUUUGCACUGAUGUCCUUUGAAUCACAACUUCAAUAUAAAAGGAAUGUCAAGGAAACUACGAUAUUGCCAAGUUAUAAAAAACAAAUACCUCAAUAUGAUUUAUGAAUAGUACAAGUCCAUUGAGCAAACCAAUUUACGCCAUAUAUAUAUCACAAAUAUGUUGAAGUUAAAUUCUUAACUGCUUGCAACUGAGAAGUACAAGAAUUUUAUUUUUAAUUUUUGGGGCCAGACUAUGUAAAUUGCACCUAAAAAUUAAGGAGGAUUCACUACUAUACCAAAUAUAGGAGCUCAAAUUAUUAUUAUUAUUUUUUAAACUUAUAUAAAAUGGACUUUAAAAAUACACCCAAAGCCUAUUUACAACAUAACAAAAAGACUUUUACCUUCUUUUAAAUUACAAAGUUGCCAUUAAUUUUUUUAAACAAACGAAACUCCAAAACCUCAUAAAAAAAAUCCAAAACACUCAAUAAGACAUCAAAGUAAUUUAAUAAUCAAAAUUAAAUUCAAUAGGGCCAACUGUCAUUUUUUUGGUUUGUUUGUAGAAAUUAAAUGGUGUCGGGUUUAUUUAUAUUAUUAGUGCUAAGAAUGGAUAUAUGACUAAAUAUCUCAAAAAGUAACACCUUCGUUCAGUUUUGGUUAUUUUUAGUUGAGGUCUCCAACAUUCCGACUGGUUAAUUGAUAAGAGAGAUAAAUUGUAUGACAUAAAACUAUUAAGCAUAUGUUUGGGUUUAUUUUUGCAUAGAUAGAUUUAAUUCAAUUUUUAUGUGCAAUUAGUUUUAGUAUAACACAGAUAUAUGAACAAAGAAGAAACCAUAUAAAUUGACAAAUAUAAUAUACCAAACAAUCCAUUGAGAAUGUGUUUGAUUUUUUGUUGGUAUGUUUGAUUAAAAUAUUUUCUACAUAUUAUUUAUAGAUUAUCUUUUAUUAUGUCGUAUCACAAUUGAACCCCAAGAGAACAAAGAAUUUGUGGCUUUUGUUUUGUUAAGCAUUUAUUUAUUUACAGAGAUGCCCGGCCAGGACCAUAAGCGAUAAUGAAAGUAGGAAUGUUGUCACUAGAACGAACCACACAAAUAGGGGUGAUCUAUCCAUAGUCAUUCUAGGUCCACGCAUGUUUGAGAUAAUUGUUAUAAAAUUGAUAGAACCUAAAAUGGAUCAUUUGAGGGUAAGACUCAUUAUUUCCUCGUGACUAGGCGUAUAUUUUCAUGUUUAUUAAUGAAAUUCACCGGUGCUGUCGAGUUUAGUCUGUAAGUUUUGCCUAGCCAACUUUCAGAUCUUGAAUUCGCCACUAAACUAGACAAUUGUUGUGUGGAAAUGAUACUCUUAUGCACCAAGAAUAGGGGUGGUGGCGUCAAGCAUUAGCAACCAACAAGAAUUCUAUAGUGAGAACCUUAUAAAUAAUUCUUAUGUAAGGCUCUAUAUCUUAACCGUUGAAUCAAAUUAGUUAGUCUAAUCCAAUAUUUAAGAAAUAAGACAUUACCUAUAAGCCAUAUAUAAGUACCUCAGUAUAUCAACUAAGGAUCAACAAAACCAAAAGUCCAUCUAGAGGCCCAUGCACAUAACAAGAAGAAUCAGGUAAAUUGCAAGAAACAGGCCGAAAGAAUCGAAAAUUACCUGCAUUUGAAUGUAAGCGUUUUUCUAUUUGGAAAUGUUGGAUUGAGCCAAACUUUUUGUAAAAAAAUUGAUACGGUGGGUUGGGCCUAAUCUAAUAAAAUAAAUUGAAAUAAUACAUUUAAAAAAAAAAACAUAACAGAGAAGUUACAUAACAUAAUUUUUUUUUUCUUUGCCAAAUUCCUAACUUAAUCGGCACAUAUAGUACCCUUUUUUUUUUCGUUUUCUGUAGUGACAUGGGUGGGAGGUGGCGAAAACACCCAGCUUACUAGAACGCAUUUGGAUUGCGGAAAAGAAUUUAUGAGAAAUUAAUUCUUAUGUCUUUUUAUUUUUUUUAUUAUGGGAAAUGAUCCAUUUCCCUUAUUUAGUAAAUCUAAGAAAAUAAACAAAAAAUAUCAUUUUAUUUAUUCUCUCAUAUUUGGCUCUUCCAUAAUUUUCAUUUGGAAUUUUUAUUUUUAUUUUUGCAUUUUAAGUUUAAUGUUUUAUUUUCUGUAAAAAUAAAGAAAGUGCCAGCCAAAUUAGGUUGGGACGUUACGUAUACCGACCGACUACGAACGUGGGAAUGAAUGCGGGAUGCGGUAAAUGCAAAAUGCAAUACUUCAACACUGAAAAAAACAGCACAAUGCAUCCCAUAAUUGGCAAAGCCAAUUUUUUAAGUGUGGUGCCAUAAUCUAUUGUUGGUCAAAACGCAUGGUCUUAUGGUGCAUACAAGGAUACAACUAGAAAUGAUAAUAAACCUAAUUUUUUUUUAAUACAAGCAAUAUUAAUCUAAAUUGUUGGGAUGGAUAUUUAAAUUUGGCAUAAAGUAGGGGAGCACAUUCCCUCUAGCUUGGCUAAGCGAUAAUAAACAUAUAAUUAGACCACAAAGUUGUUCACUUCUUUAAAAGGCAAACCACGUAGUCACUCAUGGUUUUUAGUAAAAUAAUCAAUAGAUAAAUAGAAAACCUUGGUCUGGGGUUUACUUGCAUGAUGUAGGACUUUUUAUUUUAAAAGAGAUCCCUUUGAUUUUUUUUUGACUCAUUUGUGCGUGAUGGAUGCCAGUGAUAAAAUUCACUUAAGCUAGGCUGCCAUCUAUGCACAGAAAUGCUCUCAAAUAGCAGCAUGAUUUUGUACAAUUCAAAGUGAAAAUGGCGUAUAGGUUAAAAGAAAAUAAAGUUAAAGAAAAAGUUAGGACCAUCUAGCAUUGUCUACAAUACAAUUUCUUAAACGGAAAGCUAGAUAUACUGGCAGGCUGGCAGCCACUGUACUGAACUCACAGGAACAAACAGACAUAGCGAUAUCAGCCACUAGUAACCAAAGGUAAACUUACCUCGACUGAACCUUUUCUUUACACAAUCAGUCAUGAAAGUGAGAAGUCUAAAUUAUCCCCACCGAUAUAUGACCCUUCCUUUUUUUUAUGGUGCAAAGAUUCAAGAAACUUCUUUAAUUAUUCUUCUCGAUCACCACUUUUAUUCAUAAUUCAUUUUUAUAAUAGCCCAAUCAAUGAAGUUCAAUGUUCAUCCCACACCCAAACAAAAAGAAACAUUCUUAUUCGUCUUCUUUUUCCUCUUUCUUUGUUUGUAAGAAAGCAAGCCCUGUCGUGUUGUAACUUGCAAUAACUUGCAAUAUCUUGCAUUUUAUUUAUACAUCACUCAUUGAAAUCAUAAUUUUUUUUUGAGGAUUUUGUAGCAAAUGUUGGGUACUUUAUGCGAAAACCAGUUUGAUCAUUCUCUUCCUUCCUAUCAAUCAUUGUUUCUGCUUUGUGUAAAUAACUUGUAUUCCCAAAUAUUAGUUGUUUAGCAUUGAAUCCUCUUCUGGGUCUGUGCCUUUGUGCUUUGCUUUCUUCUUCUGUAUUCUUAUAGUUCAAUUUCGGUGCAGUCUUUGAUUUUGUUCUUUCUGCUCCCCAAGUCUCUGUUUUGCUUAGUUUAUAUUUGAUUCUGUUUUCCAGAUCCCUUGUUUAAACAAAAAAAAUUGUUUAUUGGCUAGUAAAGAAGAAUAGUUUCUUCCAAGUUUAGAACUUGGGUCGAUAUUUUCAAGCUUCAGCAGCUGAAAGUAUCCAACUUUAGCAUCAAACCCAUCUGUUAAAGCCACUUCUUUGCUUCAAAACCAGUUUUCAACUCGUACCCUCCUUCUUUUAAGCUCCAAGAGCAAGUCUCUGCAAGUGUUCUGCUGAAGGGUUUUAUGGGGUUGUUGAAAGCUGUGGGCUUUAGAGGCCUUACUGUUGCCUUGUUCUUCAAUCUGCUUGUGGGUUUAGCGGUUGGCAUUGGAGUGAACUGGGGAACUCAGUUAACACACCCUCUCCCACCAGCAACAGUGGUGAAGAUGUUGAAGGACAACGGGAUUCAAAAGGUUAAGCUUUUCGAUGCCGAUUCUUCGAUAUUGAAUGCUCUGAGCAAGUCUGGGAUUCAGGUAAUGGUCGGAAUUCCCAAUGAAAUGCUCUAUGCUUUGGCUAAUAGUGUGCAAGCAGCUGAGAAUUGGGUUUCCAAGAAUGUCUCCUCACAUGUCUCCAAUGGUGUAGAUAUUAGGUAAAUAGCCCAUCUUUCUCUCGUCCUUAUCUAUGCUAUGUGCAUAUUUACAGAUUUAAGUUUAUUUUCCAAACAUGUGAAUGAUUAAAACAAGUGGUUAAUGAAUCUAUGUAUUGAUAUUUGUUUUGGAGAGAGAGAGAGAGAGAGAGAGAGAGAGAGAGAGAGAGAGAGAGAGAGAGGGUGUUAUUUUGAAGCUAUUCACUUCUUGGUGUACUCUGGCCAAUAUAUGCCCAAACUGCUUCUAGGAAAUUCAAAUUCUUCAGCUGCUAUUUAAUUCACUCUUCUUGAUCAAAAGAUGAUCUGGAAAAGCGACAACCUUGUUCAUUUCGUCUAGCUAGAGUCCUCUUUGAUUUGUCCUUGGCAUUGAGUGUGAAUUUUUUUCUACCGUUUCUGAUAAUGUGGUUCAGUUCAUUUGCAUCUCCAUGUGAAAGUAGAUCUGUAUCACAUGUUAGCAAACAAGCUUGUAUUGAAACUUCAGCAAAGUUCCCAACUUCUUUCAGAAGUCUUUCAGAAGAGUAUUCUGAAAUGCUUGACAAUCAAAAGUAGGACUUCUCUUAACUAGAAGGUGUUUUUCUGCUUCAUUGUUAGUUGUUACUGUUUUUGUCAUACUAGUUUUCCAGUUCUGAUCAGAUGCGCAAUCUAUGUCUAAUUUAUAUCUUACCUAUUUCAUACAUUCUCUGCAAGGUAUGCUGCAGUGGGAAAUGAACCAUUGUUGUCAACGUACAAUGGAACCUUUCUUCCAACAAUAUUUCCUGCCCUUCAGAAUGUCCAGUCAGCUCUCAUAAAAGCUGGUGUGAGCAAUCAGGUUAAGGUCACUAUUCCCCUCAACGCCGAUGUCUAUGACAGCAGUGGCUCGGAUAUGCCUUCUAAUGGCGACUUCCGACCAGACACCAAGGAUCUCAUGGUGGAAAUCGUCAAGUUCUUGAGUGACAACGGCGCUGCAUUCACAGUCAAUAUCUAUCCCUUCAUAAGCCUCUACAAUGAUGCCAACUUCCCUGCUGACUAUGCCUUUUUCAAUGGAUACUCAAGUUCCAUUAAUGACAACGGAAAAAUCUACAACAACGUAUUUGAUGCAAACCAUGACACCCUUGUAUGGGCCUUACAGAAAAAUGGAUUUGGAAACUUGUCCAUAAUAGUAGGAGAGAUCGGUUGGCCUACAGAUGGGGACAGAAAUGCAAACUUACAGUAUGCUCAAAGGUUCAACCAGGGGUUUAUGUCCCAUAUCAAGAACAAUGCAGGCACCCCAAUGAGACCUGGCCCUGUAGAUGCCUACUUAUUUAGCCUUGUUGAUGAAGAUGCCAAGAGCAUUCAGCCAGGUAAUUUUGAACGCCAUUGGGGGCUAUUUUUCCUUGAUGGAACACCUAAAUAUCAGCUCAGUCUAGGCACGACAAGCUCGAAUGGAUUAGUAGCAGCAAGCAGUGUACAAUAUCUGGACAAGAAAUGGUGUGUUAUGUCACCAUCGGCGAGUCUUGACGAUCCACAAGUGGCACUAAGUGUGAGCUAUGCUUGUGCAAAUGCUGACUGCACCAGUCUUGGAUAUGGAACUUCAUGUGGAAAUUUGGAUAUUCGUGGAAACAUUUCCUAUGCAUUUAACAGUUACUAUCAGAUAAAUAAUCAACUGGACACUGCCUGUAAGUUUCCAAACCUUUCGGUCGUCACCACGAGCGAUCCAUCAUCUGGAGACUGCAAGUUUAGGAUUAUGAUCCGAUCAUCUUCUUCAUCUGCUUUGAAUGCCGGAGCUGGUUCUGUUGAAAAGCCUAGUUGUUUAAUUCUGUUUGUGUUAGUGUCCGUGUUCGUCUUUACAAUUCUGUGAUUUUUUAGGUUUUUUUUGUACAUUAUUAGUCUCAAAUAAUGUAUUCACUACUCAAGGUUUUCAAGCAUUGUUUGGGCUGUGUGAGCUUGAUCUUUAUAUGGGAAGUAAAUAUUUACAGAGACAGCAAGUUUGGACUUGGACAAUUUAUGUACUCCAAUUUCUUUAUUCAUAGCCUGCCUCAAAAUCAGAAGGAAAAUAUCAAUAAUUGCUGACAAGCUCACAUUUCUCAUUAGGUUUUAGAACAGUUUACCUGAUGAAGUUUCUAUUUCAUAUAUAUACAAAAAAAUUGUGGCGUAAUCACUGAAGCCAACAAACAAGAAUAAAAAAAAGGCGCAAGUAAAAAAUCUACCUAUAAAUUGAUGAAACUAGCCUCGUCUCAUUGGUGAAUAAUUCAUAAAACCCCAAACGAAAGAAACAAAUUACACCAUCUGGUAAACUGCUAACACCAAUCAAAUCGAGUUUAGAUAAUUUGUUGACGAGGAUUUCACAUGGACCUCCAUAAUGUCACCCUCCAUUUGGAUUCAUGUGGAAUUUGGAUGCUCGUGGAAACACUUCCUAUGCAUGUACGGUGUACCACGGUAGCCCAUCAGAUAGAUAUUCAACUGGAGAGUGGCUUUAAGUCCCAAACCUUUGUUAGUAAGAAUAAAGAGCCAUCAGCUGGAGACUGAAGUUAAGGAUCGUGAUCUGAACAUUUUCUUCGAGAGUGGAUGGCAGACCCGGGUCUCUUGAAAAGCCUGGUGGUGUAAUCAGGGCCGGCCUUGAGUUUUUGGGGGCCGAGGAGAAGCAUUAAAAUGGGACCUGAUGCGCAUUCUAACACUCUAUAUAUUGGUGUGGCAAAAAUACUGCAGGCCCUGAAAUCUCACAAAUUUUGCCUUGUUAACUAACAACUGCAGUUUUCCCAAUAAAACGAAGUAACACCAAAGUUGGAAAUACCCUCAUAUGUAGCUUUGUUAAUUCUGCCCUCGCAUGUAUAUUAUGUAUAUAUGAUAAAUAAAUAAAAGGGUCGAAAAGGUGAACCUACCAGAUUCUUGAAAUUGAAUCAUUUGGACAUUCUCAUUUGAUGCUUCCGAACAUAGUCUCUGGAUCUUAUGUCAGCCUGCCUCCAUAUCAGAAGGAAAAAUUGGAGCUUUAAGAUAAUCUCCCCUUACCACGGAAAAUGCCAACAUCGCUAAAUGGCCAACAAAAGAUUGUAGCAAACAGACAGAUAACACAGCAGGCCCUCCCUAGAAUGCCUGUAACUUCACUAUAUAGAAAAUAUUCAUUUCACAUCUAAUAACUAACCGAAGAACUUAUUAGAGAUUAGAGACACAGGGCAUCUAAGCAUCGAGAGAAGGCCAUUAUAUCCCUACUUAGUUUAUACGCUCAAGUUCAAUUAACAGUCCAAAAUAUUAGUGGGGAGUGGCCAUAAUGAAUAUGAAGCCACUCAGAGCACUCGAACAGUUCAAGUUUUCACCUGCCGAAUAGGCUCCGGGACACGAAAUUUGCAAGUCAUUUUUACAAUCCUGAUGGCAGUAUCAAGUGCUAUACGGUGACCAACUGAGAUAAAUAUAGGCUUCAAUGAGCCACCAGUAGAUCUCACUGCCUGGAAAACAGAAACAUAAUGGAGACAUGGAAUCAAUUGAAACAGAUAACACAAGACAAAGUGCAAAAGAACUUCCAGCAAAGGGCACAAUUACAUGUUUAUUACCCACUUUUUAAUCAGAGUAUAUAUCCAUAUUGUUUGGAUAAACUAAAAAGUGCUGCAAAAUGAUCUUUAACUUCCUUAUAUUAUUGCAUGCCAGCCUCUGAAGAUUCCCAUCACAGUUUAAAUACCACACCACAUUGUUAAAAGAUUUAAACAGUUUUGAGAGGAGAAAUGAAGCUCAUAAGAUGUGUACCACUCCCCAUAUACGCCCAGAGCAUCCUUUCAAAGUAACAAAAUCUUGAGCGUAGUCUUCCUUGGCUUUAAGAAGUUGCAUCACACCAGAUAGUGUUAGGCCAUCCACAUGGUGAAGCUGAAUUGAAUAUAUAUCAAGAGAAAUUUCUAAAAGUCAGGCAAGCAGGGACAGCCCAAAUCAUCAAAGUUGAUGGAUGUAGUUACUGUCCGUAUUUACAUUUUUUCCAAUCCCAACAGUAGGUAGAUUUGCCAGAAUGCCAAGGUGACAAGCCAAGCCAAAACCUACAAAAGAAACUCUACAUUUUAAAAAUAUUCUCCAGUUGAGUAAGGAAGCUAAAUGCUUUUAAUCACAACUCAAGCUAAGGACAGAACGUAUCAUCUACGUUAUGAAAAUGGAACUAACAGGUUCCAAAAUGAUCUCUUGAGAGUGUAGAAGCUUUCCAAUUGUGAAGUGAGCAAAAGAUUCACUAGACCUAAGAGUGUAACCUACCCAUAUUUUCAGCAACUCCAGACUUUCAGUCCCAUCAUAGACCUCAAAUUACAUUAGCAAAUUAACAGGAAAAGGCUUCAUUUACAAAGGGCAAGCAUCUAUUCUAUGGGGAUUUCUGUCAAAGGACUUGCCUCGAGGAUGAAGUGUUCCAUUUCCAUCUACCAUUAGCAGCUGUUAUCAUUAAAGAUAAUUAUUGUUAUUUACUCGAACUCUAAAAUAAAGCAGAGUAAAAUUACAAAACACACAGAACAGUUUGCAAGUCACCAACUUGCCAGAUUUGGCAUAAGGUUAAUAUUCUCUAAUAUAUCUAAGGUAAGUUGAGAAAAGUUUAUACGUAAAUAUGAAAAACCAAAAUCAAAUAUUAAAGCUUUCAAGAACAUAAAAUUAUUCAUGUAGAGAGAUGAAGCGCAGUGAAAGGGAACCGAAAACAAAUGUAGUAGGAACCAAUACAAGUAUUAGGAUCACCUGAGGAUAUAAAGGAUUAGCAUUGGUUUUCAUUUUCUCCAAAAGCUCAAGAAGCACUGGGGCCUACAUCAACAUAGAACAAUCAAAUACAUCAAACAGUCAAAUCACUGGCAUAUCAAAUUCAAAUCCUUGCCUCUUUCUUAUUACUUUUCUCAGCUUCUGUGAUCAAAAUAUUGUUGAAACAUGAACAUCAAGAUAAACCAAAGAAAAAAGAAAUGGACCUCUCUGAAAGCAAGGAAGCCAGGAAGAUAAGGGACAUGGAGGGUGACAAUAGAGAAGUCUUCAUAGACAACUUGGAGAGUUUGGAGGUCCAAAACUACAAGAAUCCCACAUGCCAUUGAUGGGUCUUCCUUUGAAUAGCUUAUAUCAACUCCACCCACAUACUUCAACACCUCCUCCUCUUUCUCCAUUGACCUUCCUGUAACAGCUAAUCUCCAUGUGAAAUCAUCUUCUGCAAUCAACUUUUUCUUCAGAAAAUCCUGGGUCCUGAAAUUUUCACCGCGAUCUUGUCAAAAUUGAAUUGAAAUGAGAAUGUGUGUGUAGAAGUUGUGAUGAGCUUAUCGUUCUGCUUACUCUAUCCAAGUUUUAUGGUCUACUGAAGAAGAAGAAGGUGAUGUCUCUAUCGAGCCUUGUUCAUGGGAUUGCUCUUCCAUGUGAGUAUUACGGAUUUGCAGUGCACACAACCUUGCUGUGGCGUUUAUGGCUCUCUGGAGCUCCACCGAUCACGGGCAAGAUGGAACCUUUGGACUGAGAUGUGGCCUUCAUUAUCCAAAAGGUUUCAUGAUAUACUAAAAUUUAGCCCACUUUGUUUUUUGGGGACAAAUUUGAGCCCACUUAGAGAUCACAAGUUUUAGUUUUUGGGCCUGGACCCUUUCUUCUAUUAUAUUCUAGGCGUAACUGUCAAAAUAGAACAAGUUUUUACGUCAUCCGUCAAUUUAAUUCAAUAUGAUCAAUUUGACCAAUUUAGUUCAUGUGUUUUGUAUCAAUUAAUUAAUCUAUGUGUUCACUCUGUCAAAAUUCCAUUGAAACUAAUUUAAAAAACCUGCAAUUUGAUUAGGGUAUUGAUAUUUCCACUUCCUUUUGUCCACUUAUUCUCUCUCUUAAUGGUAACUAGCCCUUUGAGCAUGUGCCAAUUGAUUUUCUUUUUUCUUUUAUUUUUAGAAUUAAGAAAAGAUAAUAUGGGUAGUUAUCUAUAUAUAUAAAGCAAAAGGCAGAGAAUGAUGAAACAUUCAAAAUACCAGAAAAUGCCCUUGGUUAAUGCAACAUUAAGAAUUGAAAUUAUUAAUUAAAUGAGGAUAAUAUGGUAAAUUUACAAUUUUUCGUAUUAAAAAAAUUAAAAUUAAAAAAAAAUUUCAGAUAAUGGGUCCUAUUUUUAUGGAACACAAAUAUCCAUUAUCUUUUUUAAUUCUAAAAUAAAUUUAAAAUUUUUUUUAAAAAAACCUCUCGCAUGCGUGGAAGCGCGUGCAGAAAAGCUAGUUAAUUAUUAAGAAAUAAAAAUUCAAAUUCAAAUUGAGAGGAAAGACACAAUUAAUCUAUAUAUAUAAAGCAAAAGGCAGAGAAUGGUGAAACAUUCAAAAUACCAUAAAAUACCCUUGGUUAAUGCAAACAUUAAUAAUUAAAAUUAUUAAUUAAAUGAGGAUAAUAUGGUAAAUUCACAAUUUUUCAUAUUAAAAAAAUUAAAAUUAAAAGAAAAUUCAGAUAAUGGAUCCUAUUUUUAUGGAACACAACUAUCCAUUAUCUUUUUUAAUUCUAAAAUAAAUUUAAAUUUUUUAAAAAAAAGCCUCUCGCAGGCGCAGAAGCGCGUGCAGAGAGGCUAGUGUUCUAUAAAAGCAGAACUUAUUAUAUGAUUUUGUUUUUAAUUUUAAUUUUUUUAAAUAAAAGGUGAAAUUACCAUAUUAUCCUUAUUUAAUUAAUAAUUUUAAUUCUUCAUGUUUGAAUUAACUAAAAGCAUUUGUUGAUAUUUUGAAUGUUUCACCAUUCUCUAUCUUCUGUUUUAUAUAUAUAUAUAAUAGACAGUCCCGAUCUCUUGGACUAUAGGAGUCCAAGAGAUUUGUGGUCACUCACCGUUGGAUGUAAAUUCAACGGUUCACUCACUCUUGCACUUUUUUAAAGAAACUUUUUUGAACCGUUGGAUGUUACAUUCAACGGUGGGUGUAGUCCAAGAAAUCGAGACUGAUAUAAUAGAUUACAAAAGUAUUAAAAAAUAAAAGAGAGUGUAUAUGGACAAAAAAAAAAGUGAGAAAUUGAUAAUAUUCAAAUUUGUAAAGUGUUGUGGAAAAUUUUUGGUCAGUUAAAACAUGUCGUAAGUGAUGUGGUAAAUUUUGUUUUCUGCUAAAAAUAAUAGUAAAAGAAAAAAAAUGCUCCUAUAAAAAUAAAGCAAUCACAAAAGGGGUCAGAUAACGCCCGGUUCAAGUGAACGCCGGUAGGGUAGGGUUCCAAAUUACCGGGUCGGGUUGUUCCGGAACUUUCCGAUUCGACCUUUCUUUUUCGCACUCUUUUCUCCUCCACUAUAAAAUCGAACGCACACUGCGCAAGAACAACUUUUGUUCCUCUUUCAAUUUUUUUUUGUUUCCUCUCCAUCUCUUUCGCUCUGCAAACUCCAAAAACCUAUAAAAUUAUAAAUAACACAAACCCUGAAAAUCCAAUUCAAAAACAUUAACGUACAUAAAACACACAAACACAGAAAUAUUCAAUUUCAAUUGUUAAUCCAUUCGCGACUCUCUCUCUAUACCAAUUCAUCUGUCUCUGUAUUCGAUAGCAUAUGGAGGCGGCCAUGGAUGAGCAGCAAACCUUAGGGCAAGGGCAAGCCCAGCCACCAGCGCCACCUCCACCGCCUCCGCCAGCGCCCGAAUCCCAAUCUCAAGGAGGCGAGGACGAAGACGACGAUGAAGAAGAGGAGGUUAAGAAUGAAGACGACGAAUUGGUUGCCAAGGCCCAGAAGCUUAUGGACAAGAUCACUUCCGCGCCGGAUAACCCUAAUCCUACUGUUCUUCACGCACUUGCCUCCCUUCUUGAAACUCAAGAGUCUCGGUUCGAACCGUUUCUUCUUUUGAACUUUUGCUUUUGAAGCUUUUUUAUGUAAAUUGAUGCGAAUUUAUUCAAGAAUUGAGUCUGAGAUGCCACUCAGUGCGAGUUAUUGUUGUAAUGCUGUGCUUUGUGUUUUCAUCAUUUGCAUUUUCUUCUUUUUUGUCUUUUCCUUUCAAUAUUGAGUUAUUUUAAAUAAAAAAAAAUUGUGACUCGAUUAAUGACGAUAAACUUACAAAUUAAGAGGUUUUAGAUUAAUGAUUUCAAAGGUAUUGUGUGUGAAUUUUAUGGCUUUGUUGGCAAUUGUAUAAUUAUAUAUUUGCUUAUUGUGUUGAAAUCGGUGAUAAUGUGAAUUUUUGGAAUGCUCUUGGUGACUGUCAUUUACACAGUCGACGUUUCAUUUCCUUGUAAGCAAUACUUCUUCCUCUUUACUUAGUAAUGCAUGGCUUUCUGGUGGUAUGAUAUUCUGGUAGGAUUGGGUAUCGAUACUUGAUGUGUAAUCUUGAUAGGUCAUGUAGGGCAGAAGAUCACAGAAAAUGUAAAUUUAGUUUGAAGACUUUGUUUGGACUUUGAGUUGCUGUAGUCAAAGGUAGGGUUUAAGGACGACAUGGAAUGUCAUUGUAGUUAUAUCAUGAGGUUAGGAUUUUUCAAUGGCCAAGGCGAUGGAUGUGUUCAAGCAACUGUCUUAGGAUGCCGAGUCGAUGAUUUUAAAAUUUUUCUGGUGUACGGGAAUUAUUGUUCUUAGCAUAGGAAAGACAGUUAGCAGUCAGUUCACUAGAUGUAUUAACUGUUGACUUUGGAAGUAACUUCGGGGUGUGCUUGAGUGGUUAGAUAUGGAUUUUGUCUGAAUGGCGGCUACUUCUAAUAGCUAGGUAAUAAUACUUCAGAAUCUGAAGUUCUAAUAUCUUUUUUGGUGGGCAUUAUGAUUGUUCUUGUUUAUUUAGAAUGCUUUGUCUGGUUAUAUAUGUACUGUAAGUUGACUUUUCACUGUUUGUUUCGUUGCACAAGUCUGUGAUCUUAUAUUUAUACAUUAUAUGUGGCUGAUUAUUUAUUUACAUUGUUAAACUUUGUUCUGGUAAAUAAACUCUGAACCUUACCUAAAGAAGAAAAAACCAUCUUUUAAUGCAGAUACAUGGAAGAGAAUGGUCAUUCAUCCAGCAAUGCUCGUGCUUCACAUAACAUCGGACGGCUAGGGAACUUAGUCCGGGUAACUGGUUUUGGCGUGUGGUUACCUUUUGUAAUUUUUAUGUAUUUAUUUUUGGGAUGGUUGCUAAAAUGUAUUCAUAUACGUGGAUUAUAUCUUGUUUGCAGGGACCAAGCUUUUGUUCUAAUUUUUUUUCUCUUUUUGCCAGGAACAUGAUGAUUUCUUUGAAUUAAUAUCUUCAAAGUAUCUGUCGGAAACAAGAUACUCUGUUGCCGUCCAGGCAGCUGCUGGAAGGCUGCUUUUAAGCUGUUCACUAACCUGGAUUGUAAGAUUGUUGUUUUUCUGAUACCAUUGAGUUUCAUUUAUUUUAUUUGUUCCGUAAUGAAGAUGAUUAUUAUGGCUUAUUAUCAAUCUGACAAGCGUGAAUGUGAUACAGUAUCCUCAUGUUUUUGAAGAAGCUGUUUUGGAGAAAAUAAAAGAUUGGGUGAUGGAUGAGACUUCCAGCUCAUCUGUUGAAUACCAGAAUUGGAAGCAUGAUUUGGGGGGCAAGGAGGUCUCAGAUUUUGAAAUGCUGAAGACCUAUGCUACAGGACUUCUUGCUGUAUGUUUGGCUGGGUAUGCUCCUUCUUUGUAUCUUUAUUUUCCCUUCCUCAUUUUAUUCUUAUUGACUAGUUUGGUUCACAUAUCUUAAUUUUUAUUGAAAAUAGUGGUGGUCAAGUAGUGGAAGAUGUGUUGACGUCUGGAUUGUCUGCCAAACUUAUGCGUUAUCUUCGUGUGCGUGUUUUGGGGGAGUCAAGUAUUACUCAAAAGGAUUCUAAUCAUUUAACAGAGAGCAAAAAUACCUUGAAUACUGUUUGUGUAAGAGGUAGAGAUGAAGGUCGGGGUAGGGUUCGGCAGGUUCUGGAAACAACUCAUUUUGAUGAUCCAAGGAUAACAGAUGAGAGAUGUUUAGAUGACCAGAAUGUUGAUGGGGGAGAACCACCUGAUGGAUUGGCUGAGGGGGUUGAGAUCUAUGAUGCAGAUGGAAAGAUGAAAUUUGGAGAUUUUGAUGAAAAUGUGAGAGACGACUCCUCAAGGCGCAGACCCAACCGUGGAUGGACAAGAUCUAGAGGGAAGGGAAGGGCAAAUGAAGGUGCUGUAGAGAAUGAACAGCUCUUGACCUCUCCAGGAUCUGGUAGUAGGUUGGGGCAGGGACGGAGCUUUAGAGACAGGGCUGCAUUGAAAAAUUCCGAUGUGAAAAAAAUACCAGAUUCUAGGAAGUGUUUGGACAGGAAUACAGAUGUUCUCUAUCUGGAAAGGGAGGAUAACGAUGACUGCUUCCAGGACUGCAGAGUUGGAUGUAAAGAUAUCUCUGACUUAGUAAAGAAAGCAGUUAGAUCUGCAGAAGCUGAAGCCAGAGCAGCUAAUGCACCUGCAGAAGCCAUCAAAGCUGCUGGUGAUGCUGCUGCUGAAGUUGUCAAAACUGCAGCUUUGGAGGUACAAAAGCUGUUAUUCUCACUCUCUGUAAUGGUUUUUGUUUAGUUUUCACUUCUCAGUUGUUUGCCGCUUAAUUAUGCAGGAAUUCAAAAUGACAAAUAAUGAAGAAGCUGCAGUUUUGGCUGCUUCAAGAGCAGCAUCUACUGUCAUUGAUGCUGCCAAUUCAGUUGAAGUUUCAAGGUAGGUAUUUCAUUUUUUUAAAUGCAAAGAAGAGGUAUAUAGUACAGAUACUUGAUGAAUCACAUGCUGUGUUAUCAACUUUUUUUUAUGGCUGUACUGCCUUAGAAUAAUACUUCUUUACUGCGGGUUAUAAUUCUUCCUAUGGAUUGGUGGCAGGAGCUCGAGUAGCAUCAAUGCUGAAUCAAUGACAUCAAGCAGCACAGAACCAGAAAUCCAUGAAGAUGCUGAAGAAUACUUCAUUCUUGAUGCCGAGUCCCUUGCACAGUUGAGAGAAAAAUACUGUAUUCAGUGUCUUGAGACUCUUGGAGAAUAUGUCGAAGUUCUUGGACCUGUACUGCAUGAAAAGGGGGUAGACGUAUGUCUUGCAUUAUUGCAACGAAAUUCUAGACAUAAAGAGGCAUCAAAGGUUGCAAUGCUCUUGCCUGAUAUAAUGAAGCUCAUUUGUGCUUUGGCUGCUCAUCGGAAAUUUGCUGCCUUGUUUGUGGAUAGGGGUGGCAUGCAGAAACUGCUUACUGUCCCUAGGGUUGCUCAAACCUUCUUUGGCCUUUCUUCUUGCUUAUUUACUAUUGGUUCUCUCCAGGUAAUCACACGUGGUGUGAAGUUGAGCUGUUAGAGACUAAUUUCCCAUUUACUUGUAUCAUGAUAAUAAUAUCCAUCUAGUCUUCAUCUUUUGUGAUGACCAAUUAAUCUUUUUUCAGGGAAUUAUGGAGCGUGUUUGUGCUCUUCCUUCAGAUGUGGUCAACCAGGUGGUUAAGUUAGCUCUUCAACUUCUUGAUUGCUCACAGGAUCAAGCCAGGAAAAAUGCAGCCUUAUUUUUUGCUGCUGCAUUUGUUUUCCGGGCAGUUCUUGAUGCUUUUGAUACUCAGGAAGGCUUACAUAAAUUACUGGGCCUUUUAAAUGAUGCUGCAUCGGUCAGAUCUGGAGUAAAUUCUGGGGCAUUAGGACUCACUGGUUCAGGAUCACUUCGAAAUGAAAGGUCACCUGCAGAGGUACUGACUUCAUCGGAGAAACAGAUAGCUUACCACACUUGUGUUGCUUUGCGGCAAUACUUCAGAGCCCAUCUUCUGUUGCUCGUGGAUUCUAUUCGUCCAAUUAAAAACAAUCGAAGUGCGGCUCGGAAUCUUCCAAGUGUAAGGGCUGCUUACAAGCCACUUGACAUCAGCAAUGAAGCUUUGGAUGCAGUAUUUCUGCAGUUACAGAAGGACCGGAAGUUGGGUCCUGCAUUUGUGAGAACUCGUUGGCCUGCAGUCGAUGAGUUCUUGCGUUUUAAUGGACAUAUUACUAUGUUGGAGUUAUGCCAGGUAUAAUAUAUUACAUUAAAGUUCUUUCUCUCUGUGUGUGAAAUUAUUCAGGCCAAUGUUAUACUGUAUUCCUAUACCCUUGCCACAUGAACUUUCAAUAUGCUCACUCACUUUUCACUUUCUGCCUUCUCUGGAUAUGCUGAAUUUUGAUUUCCGCAGGCUCCGCCAGUUGAGCGUUAUUUACAUGAUUUACUUCAAUAUGCAUUGGGUGUUCUGCAUAUUGUUACGUUGGUCCCUAGCAGCCGCAAGAUGAUCGUGAAUUCUACAUUAAGCAAUAAUCGUGUUGGUAUAGCAGUCAUUUUGGAUGCAGCAAGUGUUGGUGGUAGUUAUGUGGACCCUGAGGUAAAGACUUUGUUUAUAACUGGAUGUCCAUCUUGCUUUGCCUUUAUCAUUGGAUUUAUUCUAAUUAUCUAUUUGUGUUUUUCCAGAUCAUUCAGCCUGCACUAAAUGUGUUGGUCAAUCUUGUCUGUCCUCCACCUUCAAUCAGUAAUAAACCGCCUUUGCAUGCUCAAGGUCAGCAGUCUGUUUCUGCCCAAACCUCAAAUGGUCCUGCUACAGAGACUAGAGAUAGAAACACAGAACGUAAUAUCUCAGAUGUAGUAGAUCGAGGUAGUGCAGCAGCACCUGGUACACAGUCCAACAGUAGCAAUUCACAAGCACCUGCUGCCACAGCAACAUCAGGAUUGGUGGGGGAUCGCCGAAUAUCUUUAGGACCUGCUGCAGGUGGUGCCGGCCUGGCUGCACAAUUAGAGCAAGGCUAUCGCCAAGCAAGGGAGGCUGUUCGCGCCAACAACGGUAUAAAGGUUCUCCUGCAUCUCCUCCAACCACGCAUAUAUUCACCUCCUGCGGCACUUGACUGUCUCCGUGCACUUGCUUGUCGAGUCCUCCUUGGUUUAGCCAGAGAUGAUACUAUUGCCCAUAUAUUGACAAAGCUCCAGGUACAUGACAGCUUUACAGAAUCAAAAUUUUAUUUUAUAUUUUCUUCCCUUGGGAUGUGGUUGACCCCUAUCUUUUCUGCUUCGGCUCAUUCGGUUUAAAUGAUGUUGCAAAACAUCAGACUUUUUUUAAAAAGAAAUAAAGUACAGGGAAAUUAGGGCAUGGUCAGUUAUUUUACACCAGGGAUUCCUGUUUUUAAUAAGUCGCCUCUGUUAGUGGGCCUUAAGGAAAUGUACUUCCACAUCCAAAAUGGGGGGCAAGAGAAUGUGAGACUAAAAAUUUCCUUUAGGAGAUGAGUACAGUUUCAUCCAGAACUUUAAAUAUUCUGGAGAAAGAAAUACUUUCAAAGUAAACGUUUUAAGGCAUUCUGGAAUUCAGUAUUCCUACAGAAGCUACAUUCAAAUCUCUUUGUUAACAGACGAGAGGGUUUAGCAUCAGUUGCAGAGAAGACUGAGAAGUGUUACGCUGUCUUCUUUUAUUAUAUGCUGCUCCGCUAGUUCAAGUUGAAGGUUUAGUUGGCCCUUUGCCUCAGACAUAACUUUGUCGCUGGCUAAUUUUUCUACAUUCAACUUUUGAUUUUGUUUCAAACAUAGUUUACUGCCUUUUAUUGUUAUUCUUCACUGUUUCCAUCAAGUUCUAAGUCAUUAAAUUCUUAAUCAUGGUUUUUUUUUUUGUGUCAUUGUCUAAAGAUAGGACCUUAUGUUAUAUUAGUCAAUCUUUUCCUGCUACUGAGUGCAACAUGAUGUUCUAGGUUGGAAAGAAACUUUCAGAACUAAUUCGAGAUUCAGGGAGCCAGACAAAUGCAACUGAGCAAGGCAGGUGGCAAGCUGAACUUUCACAGGCAGCAAUUGAGCUCAUUGCGGUAAGCAUUUGUUUACAAUUAGAAGUUUCUUAGAAAUAAUGUUUAUUUAACAGAAUCAGUUUUAUUAAUGAGAUAGGGUUAUUCCAUAGCCUUUUGCCCGCACCCUUUUCCCUUUCCCUCAACCUGCUUUGUACUUCAUGGUCAAAACUCAUGCGAUAUUAUUUUUGUUGUAGAUUGUGACAAAUUCUGGACGAGCUAGUACAUUGGCAGCCACUGAUGCUGCUAUGCCAACUUUGAGGCGCAUAGAAAGGGCAGCUAUAGCUGCUGCCACUCCUAUUACUUACCAUUCCAGGUAUUGAGUGAUUCCGCGUAUAGUGCCAGUAUUUGUUGAAAUUUGUUGCUUUUGAUUCUUCUGUUGACUUUUUUCCCUCUUUAUGUGUACUUGAAAUGUCAGGGAACUAUUGCUCUUGAUACACGAACACCUUCAGGCAUCUGGUUUGGCCGCAACAGCUGCUUCACUGCUAAAAGAGGCUCAGUUGAUGCCUUUGCCCUCCUUGGCUGCCCCCUCAUCUCUUGUUCAUCAGGCCACACAGGAAGCUCCCUCUGUACAACUUCAGUGGCCCUCUGGUCGCACACCUAGUGGAUUUCUGACAAACAAAUCAAAGAUUACUGCAAGGGAUGAGGAACCAAGUGUGAAAUUUGAUUCUGCUUUCUCGUAUUCAAAGAAAAAACCUUUAGUUUUCUCUCCUAAUUUUGCUCUACAGUCGAGGAAUCAAUCUCAGUCCCAUGAUUCUCACUGGGCAUCAGCCAGGAAAGUCUUUGGUGCUUCAAAACAGUUUUCUGCAACUGCAAAUGCAUCAGAAACUCCAUCAGCAUCCCUGCCAAAACCUACUUUUGAUACAGAGUCCCCAUGCAAGACACCCAUCGUCUUGCCAAUGAAACGGAAAUUAUCUGAGUUAAAGGAUCCUGGGUGUUUGCUAUCAUCAGGGAAACGUAUUCACACUGGUGACCAAGGGCUUCGAUCUCCAGUUGGUCCUACACCCACUACCAUGCGGAAGACCAGCCUACUAACUGAUGCUGGUGGAUUCUCUACACCAACUGCUAACUUAAGAGAUCAAUAUGGUCGAUCAACACCAGCUUGUUUUCCAUUAGAGUAUCCUGAUGAUAACCAGUAUGGUAAUUCUAGCAUGGGCCUGACAACACCAUCCUCCCAAUUUGGGCUGCAGAGUGACCCUCAGCCAAGCAAUGCAGAGCGAUUAACUCUAGACUCUGUGGUUGUUCAGUAUUUGAAGCACCAGCACCGGCAAUGUCCCGCCCCUAUAACCACUCUUCCACCACUCUCUCUUUUACACCCACAUGUUUGCCCUGAACCAAGACGAAGCCUUGAUGCCCCAUCGAAUGUUACAGCCCGGCUUGGUACUCGCGAGUUCAAAAGCAUGUAUGGUGGGGUCCACGGAAAUCGCAGGGAUCGUCAGUUUGUUUACAGUAGAUUCCGACCAUGGCGAACUUGUCGGGAUGAUUCUGGUGCCCCUUUGACAUGCAUCUCUUUUCUUAGUGAUUCCGCUCAUAUUGCAGUAGGCGGCCAUGGUGGUGAGCUCAAAAUUUUUGACUCCAAUAGCAGCAAUGUACUGGAGAGUUGCGCAAGCCACCAGUCUCCUAUAACGCUUGUUCAGUCACAUCUUUCCGGUGAGACCCAGCUGGUGCUUUCUUCAAGCUCCCAGGAUGUGAGGUUGUGGGAAGCAUCUUCAGUCUCUUCUGGGCCCAUGCAUUCCUAUGAAGGGUGUAAAGCUGCAAGAUUUAGCAAUUUUGGGGAUAUUUUUGCAGCUCUUCCAUCAGAGCUGGCCCGGCGAGAGAUUCUCCUGUAUGACAUCCAAACUAGCCAGUUGGAAUCGAAACUGUCAGAUACAUCUGCUAGCUCUACAGGUCGGGGACAUUCUUAUUCUCAUAUACACUUCAACCCUUCAGACACAAUGCUGCUUUGGAAUGGGGUCCUAUGGGACAGACGGGUUCCUAUCCCUGUUCAUCGUUUUGAUCAGUUUACAGAUUAUGGGGGCGGUGGCUUCCAUCCUGCUGGGAAUGAGGUAUGUAGAAAGAAACCUUGCGUCUACCACAGUAGGCUAAUUCUUAUUUCCAAAGCAGUCAUCUGCAUUCUGCCUCGAAAGCUUUGUAUUCUCCUCCUUUUUUGGUCAUUUCUAAUCCUUGUCUUUUCAAUAGGUGAUUAUAAACUCUGAGGUCUGGGAUCUCCGGAAAUUCAGACUCCUUCGGAGUGUACCUUCAUUAGACCAAACAACAAUAACUUUCAAUGCACGCGGCGAUGUAAUUUAUGCAAUCCUCCGGCGAAAUCUGGAGGAUGUAAUGUCAGCGGUUCACACCCGACGUGUAAAGCAUCCCCUCUUUGCUGCAUUCCGCACGGUGGAUGCAGUUAACUACUCUGACAUUGCCACUAUUCCAGUUGAUCGUUGUGUCCUUGACUUUGCAACAGAGCCAACUGAUUCCUUUGUUGGGUUGAUCACAAUGGAUGACCAAGAUGAUAUGUUAGCUUCUGCUAGGGUUUAUGAAAUUGGUCGCCGGAGGCCGACUGAUGAUGAUUCUGAUCCUGAUGAUGCUGAGAGUGAAGAAGAUGAAGAUGACGAGGAUGAGGAUGAUGACGAUGAUGUGGACCCUAUACUGGGCCCAGAUCUUGAUGGGGAUUCUGACAGUGAUGUUGAUGAUAUGAGCAAUGAUGAGGAUGACAGCGUGAGUGACCUCGACGAUGAUGACGAGGAUGCAGAUUUUAUUAUGGAUGACUUUGAGGGAGGAGGUGGAAUACUGGAGAUUGUGACAGAUGGCGAGGAGGACGACGACGACGAUAGUCAAUUUAUGGAAUCCUUUAGCAGUGGUGAUGAGGAUUAUGUGGGCGGUUUUGGAUAUUAACUGUAACAUAAUUUUCUUAAACCCGAUUAGAUUGGUGUUAGUAGUUGACCAGAUAGUGUAAUUAAUUGUUUUCUUUUUGGUUUUUCCUUGAUGCAUUAUUUACCAAUGAGAAGAAGGCUAGUUUCAUUCAUUAGUUUACACGUAGAUUUUUCAUCCGCGCCUUCCUUCGUAUGUUUUUUCGCUUGCUGGGUUCAGUGAUUACACCAUAAUUAAUUGUUCUGAAACUUAUGGGAAAGCAAUAAUUCAAUUCUUUUGGUGUUGUAAAUAUAUAUAGUGGAGCCCACUUCUAUUAGAAGAUGCUUGCCUAUAAAUUAGGCAUUCCCCCUUACUUGUAAUACACACACAGAUUAAAAUGGAAGAGCACAAACAUUCAAUAGAGAUCAGUUCCUAUAUAUCCCAAUUCCCUCUCUCCAAUUCCUCUUGAUUCAUAACACGUUAUCAACACGAAUAUCUCUAAAAUACCUGGGAAAUUCGAUCAAAACAGACCACCUUGCAAAAACUCAAGCACAGGCUUGAUGGCGGAGCCCGUUGCUUCCAACUUCAGUUUCUGACAACUCCAAACAUUUCAAAUGCUGAAGGCCUGUCAAGUUGACCAGCCCUUCAUCACCAAUCCUACAUGAAUCCAGGUUCAAGCUCUCCAAAUUUGUCAAACCUUUCAAGUGUACCAGACAAGCAUCGGUGAUGGCCCAUCAAAGCCGUCACUGAGAUCUCCAAGUUCGCUUCGAACUUGUUGCAGCUUCAGAACGAAGCUCUGGAAGACGAUGAUGAUGAUGAUGAUGAUGAUGACUGUUCUCAACUCCAGACUCAUCGUCCUCCCCCACUUCCCCACCAUCCUCAGCCGUCCAACGCGCUCUGCAACUUAUCCAAUCCGACGACCAGGAUUCCAAGCUCCAAGGCGCGCAGGAAAUCCGCCACCUCACCAAGACCUCGAACAGGUGUCGGCGCCAGCUUUCGGCCUCGGUGGGCCCGCUCGUGUCCAUGCUCCGAGUCAGCGACUCGACCGAGUCUCACGAGUCCGCCCUCCUCGCUCUCCUCAAUCUCGCCGUCAAGGAUGAGACAGAUUUUUGCAAGGCCAGAAAUGACAAAGGUGUACCCAAACGCUGCCAAUGCCAAAAUUGCCCUUACCUACGAGCCUGAGAGGCUCAAGCUUUCUGGUUCCGACCAGGAGGAUGCGACGGUGCUGACCAUGUGGAAGAAGUCUUUGCUGCUCAACUGCAAUGGCUUCACCGUGUUCAACAACAAGGACUGGGACUUGGCGACGGAAAAGAGGAGGCUCAGUUUUCAGACCCUGAUGAUAACGAUGGUAGAUCUGAUGAGAGAAUCCACCUCUUGCUUCUCAGUGCUCAACAAAAGAAAUUAUCAACAACAAUGAUGAAAGCAAAAGCAGAUCAAACAGCAAAUCCACCGAAAGAAAAGAAAAAAAAAAAAACAAUAAUAACAAAAAAAAUUUUAUGCUUUCUAUCACUUUAUUAUUCCUCUACAGUAUUUAAUAAACCAAUUGGUGCAGGUGUGCAGAUUACAGGUGGUAAGCGACAAGCAUGAUGCCUUCCACAAACGAUAACAAUAUUAUCUGCUAUACUAUUUGAUCGUGGUGUUGAUGAGAACCCACCAAUAAUCACAUUUACUUUAUCGCAAAUUUACUUUUAUUUAAAGUAUGAUGUGGAAUUAACCCUCAUACUUUAUGAAUUUACUUUACUGCACAUUUACUUUUAUUAAAAGUAUGAUGUGGAAUUAACCCUCAUACUUUAUAUUUCCUUUUAUUUAAAGUAUGGUGCGGAAUUAACGCCCAUACAGCAAGCAAUUUAAUUUAUGAAUUUAUUUUAUCGCACGUUUACAUUUAUUUAAAAGGGUGGUGCGGGUUUAUCGUCCACGCCUUUACUUUCAUUUAAAUGUAUGGACAGAAUUAGUGCCCAUACAAGCACGUUUACUUUACCAAUUUAUUUUACCGCACAUUUACAUUUAUUUAAAGUAUGGUGCGAGUUUAUCGUCCAUACUAGUAAUUUAUUUACCAGUAAUUUAUUUUAUGGAUUAAAUGUGAUGUAUGAUGAGUUUUUACAGUAUGCAGAUCAGGACCAGAAGUUCCUUGAUCCUCAUCAUACAAUUACAUCAGGACUUGAAGAUCCUUGAUGAUGAUGUUAAUAUGAGAGCUGGCAGUCUCUCCGGUACUAUAUUUGUAAACAUGUGAUUGGACUUGAGGGUCCUUGAUCCCUGACAUGUAAAUAAGGACCUGGGGUUCCUUAAUGAUGUAACAGUACCGUAUUGUUUCAUAAUGCCGUACACAUGGAUGAUAACUGUACUGACAAAUGUACUGUCCACAUGAAUAGAUACGUAUUCAUGACUUGAUGAAUAGUACCGGAUAUAUGAAUAGUGACGUAUACAUAAACAUUAACCAUUUUGGGUAAACCGUCACUAUAUUCAAAAAGGGAACCUGCAGUUCCUUAAACUCAUGAAUGAGCAAUUAAAUGAGAUGCCAGAAGUUCCUCAAGAUAUGGACAAUUAUGUAAGGACUUGAAGUCCAGAAAAAUGUACAGAAAAUUGUAAAAAUGUCCAUACCAUGAGAAUAUAUGAUUUUGGCCCGAAGUUCAAAAUCUAAGGGGAUUGAAUGUCCAUACCAUGAGAAUAUGUGAUUUUGGCCUGAAGUUCAAAAUCUAACAGUAUUGAGAACCUAAAGUUCCAACAGUUAAAUGGACAAUCCUUGAGGUAUUAUUGCAAAUUGUGGUACACCACAUAUUUCUUUGGCAUAAGAAAACGAUGAAUUGAGGCUUCCCACAUAUUUUGUUAUAUCUGGGCCGGAAGCACAUGGAUUCAAAUAUAUGAGAUAUUAGCGUGGCUUUUACUCAAUUCAUAUUUCAUGUCCACUUGAAAAGGGCGAAUAAAUUCUGAGUUUGUGUUUAGCCCAGGCCAAAAGUUCCAUACGUUGAAAUAUGAAAUUUGGGAGAGUCGAUGUGGUUAUUUGAACCUAUAAGGUACAAGAUUCCAAACCGUCAUUUUGAAAAGACGUAAAAACCACAGGUGCAAGUUUAAGAAUGUGCGUAAUUAUUAUAACAGGAACAUACAACAGAUAGAUUUUUUCCACCUGCAAUGAAGAUGCAGGCCCUGUAAAAUCUAUAAAAUUACAUUAUGUUCUGGAAGCCUCUGCAGGAAGAGGACGACGCCUCUUAAGCUUCGCCAUGAGCCUCUCAUGGUCUCCCAAAAUUCUUUCAUUGGAGACCUGCAGCAUAUCUAGCCUUCUCAGUGUAUCAACAGAGUACGAACUCACCAGUUUCAACAAAGCAUUAUUCUCUCCUUUAAGUUUCUCAACCUCCUGUUGAGACUCAUGAAGCAUUCUUUGGAGAGACGAAUUUUCAGUUGUUAAAAUCUGAACCUCGUUUGCUCUAGCACGCAAACGAUCAGCCAUGUUAGAAACAGAAGCAGCACUCUGAAUGCUAAAAGCCAUUGAGUCAUCAAUAGCCUCUUCCUCUGAUCUCCCUGUCAACAACAUUUCAUCCAUUGGAAUAAUGAAAUUCUUAGCUACUAUGACAGCAGUAGCAUCAUUCAUCAUCACAGAAUCAUUAACUGUGAGAUGACGAUUUUUGGAUACAAAGGAUGGACGCCAAACUUGGGCGUCACUGGUUGUUGUGGGAGUAUCAUUUAAAUUGAAAUAAUUUGGGCAGGAAGAAGAGGAAGCCAUUUUUAAGAAGGUUUCGAAGAAAGUCUUAAGAAAACUAAAGUUUCAGAAAAUGAAGGGAGUUCAGUUGAAAUGCAGUUACUCCAAUCAAGUUUUGCAAAGGCAAUAUCUAUAGGAGGAAAUAUGGCUACAGUUUUUCAGGAUCCCAAUAUCUUUUCGGAUCCCCAUAUUCUCUUUUUCCUUCCCAGAUUCCAAAACUUCACGUGGCCUCCAUUAAUGUUUGUCGGCAAUUUCGGCGUUUUCAAAGUAUUAUUUUCGUCAAAAGCCGAUCUUGCUUUACGGAUUUCACGGAGCUACUUUUUCAAAAGUAUCCCGAGAAUCUCGCAAUUUUCCUAUGGUUAAUUUGAAAUUCACCGGUUCUACCUAUUCAUUGUAUUUGUGUAUAAAUGUGUUACUAACGAAAUUUUCUUUGCAGAAGACAUCCAAUUUUCUCCAUACCUAGUGAUGCGAUAUCUACUUGUUUUUCUUAUCAGUAAGCACUUAAUAUGCCCGAGAAGCAAGACUAUCUCUGAUCAUCCAUUCAGGAAGCGAGACUAUCCCUGAUCACGUUUCCGCCACAUCAGGGAACUGUGAAGGCAACCUUAUGCUCUAAUCUCCGGAAGUUCUUCUAGACUAGAAGAAAUGAGAGCUUGUUGUUUGCUCCCACCAGCUUCCUUCCUUGAUUGCUGAGCUUGUUGUCUGCUCCCACCAGCUUCCUUCCCUGAUUGCUUACCUUCUCUUGCAAUCAAUAUCACAUUAUUUUUGCAUUUUUUCUCUUUUUAUAACUCUCUGUUCAUAAGAGAUUUUAUUUCUUUAGAAUGAACAUCUGAAGAAAGAAUCCAUGAAGUGAUCCUAACUCUGAGGGUUAUUUAUUUUUGACAGAGAAAAGAGUUGUGAUUUUGCUCUUGCAGGAUAUAACUAGAUCAUCAAGCGCUACAUUAUAUUUACUAGGCCGAUACGAGCUUGAAUGAUACUUGAGAAAAGUUUCUCCCACCUAAGGAUGUAAGCAGUAUUUGUGUUAUUAUAUGCUUAUAUACUUAUUUGAUAUUUUAUCUUGAAAGGUAACCAAAUAGGGAGAUAAGUCUGUUCCAAAAGAAUGACUUGUAUGUAUCCAUGAAUUAUUAAUGCAAAUUUUACAGAUUGCAAGUUGGAUACAUUGAUAAUACACUGCACAGAUUAAAGUCCCAUAAGAACAGAAUAUGGGUAUAGCAGUGAUCAAUAUGAUGCACGCCUGUUGCGUAGCAAAUGAUGUGGAUUGAAGUCCCGAAAGGACAAUCCUUUGACAUGUCAAUAUUGAUAUUAUGCACGCCUAAUGCGUAGCAAAUUAUAUGGGUUAAAGUCCCAUAAUAUGGGUUAAGGUCCCAGAAAUUAAUUGACAUGUAUGUAUUAAUCUGUGGCAUGCCUUUAGCAUGACAGAUAUAUGGGUUCUAAAUGUUCCAACUCCCUAAAUGGAGAUUAUCCACGCCCUACUGCUAAAUAACGCUCUAAUGGAGGUUAUAAUUCACAUUCUCACAUAAUAAAAGCCCCAUGAAGUGGCUUGGGUACCCAAAGGCAAAUAAAUGCUUAUAAUUGAUGCAUGCGCAUGCACAUGAGAAUGGUGGGAUCAUGAAUUGAUGAAUGACAAUUUUUGGUUUUGGAGUAGCUACUCAAAUCAUCAAUGGGCUGUGUUGAUUGGAACCACGUUCAAUUAUUAAAUGUCGACAAUAUCAUUGGCCAAAAUGGAAUAAGGUAAUUCCAUUAUAGAUGAGAAUGAACGUGAAAGAACAAACCCACAGUACGAACCCCAAAAGAUGUUAAUACUGAAAUUUAUACUUGGGUGUUCGGAAUAAAAGGGAAUAUACCUACUUUGUAUGACACACUGUUUCUGGCAGAAACAAGGAAUGUUGGGUUUUCUCCAUAUUUACAGAUUCAAUUGUGCCCCUCCCCCCCCCCCCCCCCUUUUAUUACACAAUUACGGAGACCAACAUAUUAUCUUUAAGGGUUAUUAAAUGCACGGAGCAUAUCGCCAGAAGCGAUUUCCUAAAGAUAUAUAAAUAGCUGGGUAAAAGCUAUAUAAUGUGUCAUAAAGUUUAAUUCCUUUUAAACAAAAUCCGUUGAGAGGAUUGACAUUGCAUAAAGCAAGUCCCUAAAAGACAUGUGCUUGAAGCACAAAAUUUGUACUCAAUAUUAAUAUGCAUAAAUUACCUCAGUGAGUACAUUGAUUAUAAUGUGUUUGCAACACAUUAAAGCUUCUGAAGAGUUCAAGAAAUAUUUGUCUCGACUUAAGGAUCGAGCAUUAUGCCAACGAGAUUCUUGCUUAUACUAAGAAAGUAUUGAAGCAUUUUUUAUCUGUUGGACACUUUAAUGAUUUUCCGGAAGUAUAUUGGACCGGACAUCAUAUUUUCCAGAUAGGGCUCAACUCCAUCACCAUCAUUUUGGGAUGAUGUGAGGUAUAUUUGAUGCUAUCUCCGCAUAACACCAUGUACGGGCAUAUUCUUUCAAAUGAACUUGCAAAUAACCCAAGUUUUGUUGAAAACGCGGACUCUGAAAAUUUCUAUGAUUUACCUAGAGAUAGCUCACUGGAAAUAUAUUUACUUACUCAACUACGAGAAUUGUUAAUGGCUAUAUCCUCCACUCACUCCGAAAGAUUCUCACUCUAAAAGAUAGUCAUGAAGACAUCAGGAGGAGAUAUUAAUCAGGGGGAGGAUCCAGAAGUAUGCUAUACAAAUUGUUGUACUCUUCCUUCCAUCAGUAUAAAUUUUUCAGGGGGAGAUAUUCACAAAAGGGAGCGUGGUUUUAAUAAAGACCUCCAUACACUGUACUCUUUUUCCUUCAUCCAGGUUUUUAUCCCACUGGGUUUUUCCUGGUAAGGUUUUAACGAGGCAGUGUCGCUCAAGUUUGACUCACAGAAGCAGUGUCAACUACGAUAUUCAGAAAGCUGAUCAACAGUAUGACUUAAAGAUAUUUUGCCAAGCAUCAGGGGGAGCGCGCUAUCAAUAAAGAUCUUCAAACACUGUACUCUUUUUCCUUCGUCCAGGUUUUUAUCCCACUGGGUUUUUCCUGGCAAGGUUUUAACGAGGCAGUGUCGCACGCGUGUCAAUAUACACAGAAUUUUAUGUUACACAUGAUUAUGUACUCUUUUUCCCUUUGACCAGUUUUUGUCCCACUGGGUUUUUACUGGCAAGGUUUUUAACGAGGCAUACUCCAUAUCAUUUGUGGUCUCCAAGGGGGAGUGUUGUAAAUAUAUAUAGUGGAGCCCACCUCCAUUAGAAGAUGCUUGCCUAUAAAUUAGGCAUUCCCCCUACUUGUAAUACACACACAGAUUAAAAUGGAAGAGAACAAACAUUCAAUAGAGAUCAGUUCCUAUAUAUCUCAAUUCCCUCUCUCCAAUUCCUCUUGAUUCAUAACAUUUGGGAGAUUUUAGAAAUUUUAUUUUUAGGCCAUUAAACGCACCGUUUUGGUGGUAUGCAAUUUCAUAAUCGUAAUCUAACCUGGAAAAGACAUCCCCUUGAACAAAACAAACAAAAAAAACCCCAUCAAUUCAAUGGCAUGUGGGGGUUCUUGUAGUUUUGGACCUCCAAACUCUGCAAGUUGUCUAUGAAGAAGACUUCUCUCUUGCGUUCCUGCCUGCCUUGCCUUCAGAGGGGUCCAAAUUCUUUUUAUUUUAUUUUUCUUUUGUUUAUCUAAAGUGGUGAGUAAAAAUAUUCCCCUUCAUUAUAAAGAUUUUCAGCACAAACAUAUCCAAACAAAGCAGAUCAAGAAUCAGUAGAUCAAUACUCAACAGAAACCCACAUGAUACAAACUGAAAAAUACAGAAAACUACAAACACAGAGAGAAUAUGACAGCAUAUAGAGAGAACAAAAUAAACAUUAUGGAUUUUGCUCUUCUUUCACUUUGUUAGUGGUUAGACUGAGAAAUAACUUUGUUAAAGAAAAUUGAACUCCUAAUUCUUAUUGUCCACAUAAGAAUUUUUUGUCUAUGCGGUAGCGAGCUAUCAUGCAUUCCAUCUACUAUCUACUUGCCAUAUAGAUAAACAUGUAUACCAUCUACUUGCCUUCUAACCCAUCCAUCCAUCCAUUCACUUCAAAUCGUAUGAACAUCAAUAAAAACGACGCAAUCAUCUGACAAUGUGCAUUUAUCACUUGUAAGAAUUGAUUGUUUCACAAACUAAAGAACAGAAACGAAAUUAAGUAUGUUUUAAGAUCUCUAAAGAUCGAAUUCUGCCAAAAUGAAUAAUACACUAAGGGGCAAUCCUAAGUGGAUCACGAGGGAACAGAGAAGUUUUGCGGAUGUUGUUCAAACCGCAGAAAAGCAUGACAACGCGCUCCAGCCCUACCCCGAACCCACCGUGCGGAGGUGCACCAUAUCUGUAAGAGCCAUCACAAGGGUUAACAAGAGCCGGGCCAAAAAAACUCAUGCCAAACAUACUGAGCAGCAUAGAGGUGUAUAGCAUGGUAAAAAGCAAAAUUUGUAAAGAGCUUUUGACUUGGAAUAUUUUAAAAAAAUGAUAUCAAUAAUAACAAGGGAAGAAAAAAUAAGAAUACCUGAAAGCAUCGAUAUAUGUUGAAAUUGUCUUCAGUUCAAUCCCACAUGCUUGUGCACGUUCAGCCAGUAAUUCUGGCACGUGCACACGUUGGGCACCAGAAAUUAUCUCCUCACCUGAGGGAUGGGAAAUAGAUAAUUAGAUUUUCGUUGAUAUUUAAAACCAAAACAACAAUGCUGAUCCAGCCAUUGAUGAUUUACCUCGAAUAAAAACAUCAAAUGAAUUACUGUAGGCAAGAUUAUCGUGGCAAGGCAUCGUAUAGAAUGGCCUCACAGCCAAAGGAUAGCGGUGGAGUAUGUAGAACUCAGUGCCGUACCUAUGAUCAAGUAAAAUCCAGUUCAAACAUUUAUAAUAACAACAGAAUCUAUAUUAAACGAGAGCAAACUAAAACAUAUACUAUGAAGAUAUAGAGCAAGAAAAUUAAAAAUUACUUCUCCAGAACCAGUUGCCCCAGUUUUCUCUCAGCCUCAGUGUUUAGGUCCCCCAUAGGAUCCACUUCAAUGCCAGCAUCCUGUACAAGGAGGUCAAACUUACAAUAAAAAGAAAGAAAACUCUGCAAUUGAAAGCAGGUCGUGCAUGUUUUGGCCUUCCAUGCAUGCAAAAAAAUCAUAUACAUAAGGGUUUAGUCGAAAUAAAUAAAACAAAGAACUAUUCAGCUCAUUUAUGCACAAGUUAUAAAUUCCAAGGCACUCCUCUCCCUCAAUGGCCUGCACACAGAUCCAUGCAUCUGUGCAUCCAUUGUUUUCAUUUGUUGCCCACUCUGCAAGAUAACUCCAGACUACCUAAUUUGUUGGGUUGUUUUCUACGGCUCAUGAACACAAGUUUCUGAAUUAACAGCAAUUGCCUACAUGGAGCUUGCCGCUCCAUCUGAAGCUCUCCUAAUCAUAACCACUGCAUGAAAGAUCAAACUAGUAUGAUAGUAUUCUAUCCCCUCUUCAGCUUCAAGAUUUCUUAAAAGUCAUGCUUCCUCAAGAACUAUGUGACUUGUGAACUGUGAUACAGCCCUAUCAAAAUCUACAAUCAUUCAUUUAAUUUCUCUAUUUUAUUCAGUGCAAAACAUGAACCAAUGAAAAUAAGUAAAUAAAUAAAAUUAGCAUAGUAUUCCUAACCUUGAGCAUUUGAAUACCUUCUUCAAAUGUAAGGCGUAGAGUCUCUGGCAAGUACUGCAAAUUUAUGACAUGUCAACAAUCAGAAUCCAAAAAAUUUAUGUGCACAGGCCUGAAAUAUUUGGUAACAGUUUAUUCUAUAACUGACAGGAAUAUAAAUGAGUUUAUUAGGAAAAGAUCAUGCAGCACACCAAACAUAUCACAUUACAAUUAUAAUGUCAAUAAAAAAACAAAUAAGAAUCAUGACCUUCAAUGGUUCGAAGGGAUAUUGCCUCCCUACAGCUUCAAGCUCCUUCUCACAAGUCUUGUUCAAAGUGUCGAAUAUUGUAACAAAUAAACGGCCAACAAUAUCCAUCACCUGCACGAACAAGCAUAUAACUACUCAGAAAUUCACAUCCAUGAUCAUAUUGGGUGCUAAGAGAAAACCUUAGAAAUUCAAACUCUACCUCAGAAUAGUGACUCUUGAUCUCCAUUUCAAGAUCAAGACCAAUAAACUCACACAAAUGCCUAUGGGUAUAGGAGUCCUCAGCUCUAUAAACACCACCAAUCUCAAAAACACGGCCAAAGUCACCACAGAUAGCCAUCUGCUUGUGAAGCUGAGGUGAUUGGGCAAGGCAGGCAGGUUGACCCUUGUAGUCGAGUCUAAACACAGCAGCACCACCUUCGCUUGAACCAGCAAUCAGUUUUGGCGUGUGGAUUUCAAAAAAGCCUUCAGAUAACAGAAACUGCCUAAAGAUCUACACAAUAACACAACCAAUUACAUACAGAACUAAACUAACAACAAAUUUUCUACAAAUUUACAAAGAGAAACAAACACAAAGCAUAUAUCUGCAAAUGCUACAAACAAAACUUACAGUUCCAACUUGGCUCUGGAUCCGGAAGAUCCCCUGAUUCGCUGGUGUUCGCAAGUCAAGAACUCUAUUGUUCAAGCGUGUAUCCUGAUUAACACGAACAAGCUUUUCUCCAGCCUAAAACCCACCAAAAGAUCCAAUAAAUUUACAUACAAAAAAAAAAAAAAAAAUCCAAAUCCUUGACAAAAUUUCAAGAAUCCAAUUAACCAAAAAAAAAAAAACCUCUAAUCUUACUCUCUUAAAUAAUCAUUGUACCUGCAAAGCUUUUUCGAUUUCAGCAUCGCUUCGAGCAGCAUCCUCAAUAUUAAUAGGUAGCACAGCAGCUUUACUCACACAGUACAAUUUCCUCACUUGAACCUCCACCUAAUUAAAAUCAACAUUUCAAUUAUAUCACAUAUUAACUAAGCAGUGAAUUCAUAAAAUUAAAAAAAAUUGAAAUAAAAAAUUACCUGCUGUGUGGUUCCUUUUAUCUCAACACUAGGAACAGAAACAACUCCUUCAAUAUCAAUAAUCGAUUCGCGGCUCAAACCGGCAACGUACUUCACCAUCUGGCGGCUCACGGUAUCAGGCUGGACCGUAGCCACACACUGCACGGUGAAGCCUCUCUCUCUGACGACCACAAACGCCAUGUUCUUCCCCACGGCUCGGAUCGUCUGCGCUCGGCCUCGAAUCAGCACCGAGCGGUUCUCCGAUGUGUUCGUCAGAGCGCCGACCUCGGUCCAUCGGCUGACGUCCUCCACCGUCUUCGAUUGUAUCUCGUUGAGCGGGACGUCUCCAUAGUUGGCGGAGAGCGGGUCCUGCUCGUCAUCGACGGCGAGAGAGCGAGUGGCGGCGGCUAGGGCUUCUUGCUCUUGGCGGCGGCGAAGCUUCUCUUGCUUGGCUGCUUCCUUCUUGGCGGCCUUUUUGCUGACCGAGGCUGCGUCCUCGGAAGGGGGUUGCGAUUCGGGUGUGGACAUUGUCGGGUCGGGUCGCGUUCAGAAUAGUAGAGUGGUGGACUGAAAUGUCUGGACAAACAAAACUGCUAAAAUAUUUGGAAAUGUUGUGUGCGUUUUGUAUUGUAGGAUGAUAUAUAAACGAGUACAAUUUUUAUUUAUUUAUUUAUUUUUUUGGGUAACAAUACGAGUACAAUUUAGGCUAUGGAGGAAUCUAGCCUAGGGAUGGCAAUGGGUCGAGUAGGGGUCGGGUAUGACAAUACCAUCCUCAUCCCUGCUCUUCAUCCCCGCCCUCGUCCCCAAACCCAUCCCCAUUUAAUAGGUUUCGGAAAAUCCUCAUCCCCGUUCCCGUCGGGGAACUAUUCCCCAUACCCGCCCCGAAUCUCCGAUUGUUUUUGCAUAAAAAAUAUUUAUAAUACAUUUUAACAUUAAGUUUCAUAUUAAAUUAUCAUUCAACGCAUCCACAAAUUUUCGUUUAUUUUCAAAAAAAAAAAACUCUCUUCGUUUUAUAAAUAAUAAAAAAUUUCAACUCAUGGCAAUUUUUAUUUUAAGGGAGGCAUAUUUUCUUUUUUGGAAUGAGUAUUAAACAACUCUCAAGUUACUGUCCAAACCACACACAACACAACACGAAUGUUAGGACUCGAACCCAAGACCUUGUCUGAGGAAGUAAAUACUUCAAACCACUACACUAGUGGGUCCUUUGUCCAUGUUAUUAUUUUUAAAUAUCACUUUUGACCCUUAAAAAAUUCUUUAUAUUAAUAACUUUUAAUAAUUAAAAAUAAAAAAUUGAACAACUUUUCAUUCAUAAUUCUCUACUAGUGCUUUAAUUUAUCAAACAUUGGAAUUAACAUCCUACAUUCUCAUCUCUUAGGAAAGUCUUUUUAUUUUUUUUUCAAAGAUUAGGACAGUUUAUUUACAGCCUAACCCGUGAGAGAGGUAAACAGUUAAGAAAAUCUCCCUGUGAGAUUCUUUACCAUCACAGAAUCUGAUUCGAUUGCUACCUGGAACAAUUUUGAGGAGGCAAAGAUGCUGCUUUCGCUCGUGAUUUGAUUCGAUUGCUACCUUCAACUUAAACCCUUGAUUAAAAAAACUAGAAUAAAAUCGCGGGUUUUCGUUUUCUCCUUCUCCUUCCUGCUUUUUCAGUCUCUGAAAAGCUCACUCUCACUCUCACUCUCCCUCCACAAACCCUUUCCCUGCUGCUUGCUUCUACUGCCUCACUCAAAAAUGUUGGCAGCUAAAACCCUAAUAAACCCGUCUCCGCCCCUCAAUCUGCCGCCCAAACUCACCCUCCGUCGUCCCAAACCCCCAUUCUCUCUCUCAAUCCGCAACUCGCUCUCUGACUCACAAGCCCCAACCACUCCGGGUCAGCUCCGAGUCGACAUCCUCUCCGAGUCUCUCCCCUUUAUCCAAAAAUUCCGAGGCAAGACCAUCGUAGUCAAGUACGGCGGCGCCGCCAUGAAAUCAGAGUCCCUCCAGGCCUCCGUCGUCAACGACCUCGUCCUCCUCUCAUGCGUCGGCCUCAGGCCCGUCCUUGUCCACGGCGGUGGGCCCGAGAUCAACCACUGGCUCAAGCGCCUCAACAUCGAGGUCAGCUUCCACGACGGCCUCCGAGUCACCGACGCCGCCACAAUGGAGAUCGUCUCCAUGGUCCUCGCCGGAAAAGUCAACAAAAACCUAGUCUCGCUCAUCGACCGCGCCGGAGUCAAGGCCAUCGGGCUCUGUGGCUUCGACGGGCGCCUCGUCACCGCCCGACCCGCCCCGAACGCGGCUAAGCUCGGGUUCGUCGGGGAGGUUGCUCGGGUGGACCCCACUGUGCUGUGGUCGAUCGUGAACGACGGCCACAUCCCCGUGAUCGCGUCGGUGGCGGCGGACGAGACGGGGCAGCAGUACAACAUCAAUGCGGACACGGUGGCGGGGGAGCUGGCGGCGGCGCUGGGGGCGGAGAAGCUGAUUCUGCUGACGGACGUGGCGGGGAUCUUGAGCGAUCGAAACGACGCGUUUAGCUUGGUGAAGGAGAUUGACAUCAAGGGAGUGAAGAAGAUGGUGGAGGAGGGGACAAUUGGUGGGGGUAUGAUACCAAAAGUGAAUUGCUGUGUAAGGUCUUUGGCUCAGGGGGUGAAGACUGCUAGCAUUGUUGAUGGGAGAGUGCCCCAUUCUUUGUUGCUUGAGAUUUUGACUGAUGAAGGAGCUGGGACCAUGAUUAGUGGAUAGUUAAAUGCUAAUUGCUUUGAUUAAGAGUGUAAUUGUUUAUGAAUUUGAGAGAGAAUAUUGAGAGCUCUUUGUCAUCCCAUAAUUUGCAAUAAUUAUCAGCUGCUCUAAAAUUUUACUAUAAAUUUAUGCUUUGGUGAGUUUCUACUGUUACCCAAUUUCAAUAUCUGCAUAACUUGAUGUCAUGAAGAACAUUUUAAGUGACAUUAAAUGAUGCAUAAAUAAUCAAGCUUCACAUCCCCAGAAAUUAGCAGAUGAAUUAGUAUAAAUCAUCUGGCAUAAAUUAACAAUGGUGUCCCAGUAAAUACAAACAAAAGGGAUUUAGCAGGGACUACGCGGCAUGAACAGAUCAAUUUCUGAAACUGAGACAUGAUGGAUGCCAUGGGAAACAAAAAGAAGUCCUAUUGCAUUUACAAACGAUUGUUCCAAAAGUUUCCUCCUGAAUACAAAGUUUGAGGAAAAUCAACUUACACCGUAUAAUGACCUGAGUGGUUCUGCUUCAGAAUGCUUUCAGCUUUCACCGACCUCUUCUGGAUCAGUAACUGGCAAUUCGUCGUGCCCUGCUAUCUCACUGUUUGCAUGUUCCGAUGAGUUCUCGUCAUCAGAGUCUUGUCUUACAACAGAAUCAAGAGCAGAGUUACAGAUGGGUCUUUGUCUCGACCUAUUCUUGGUGCCCAAGUUUCUGUUUUCCAGGACUGGAUGGCUAGUGUCUCCAGCUAGUCUUUUACUCCAGCGCACACCCAUAGGCUUUAGGGCAAUACUAUCAGUUUGAGCAUGGUUCUUGUCUGUCUCAGAUUUGCCUGAGUCACUAUGGUCACCCUUAUCUUCAUCCUUUGUUCCACCAUCAUCCCAAUUGUUAUCAUCGUCAUCACUAGCAACUUCUUCAAUCCUGUCGCUUGAGGUGUCACUGCCCGCAGAGUCAUCCUUAUUACCAGAAUCAUUGGCGUCACUGUCAUUGGAAUUACUUUUUUUACCUGAAUUGUCUUCUGAGUUUGUGUCUCUCUGUGGGGCACCAUUAGUGUCAGUGCCAUUUCUUCUUCUACGCUUACCCUCUUGCCUUUUCUCGUCGGCAGUUCUCUUCCCGCUGGACCCCAAGUAAGAUUUACAAUUGGUGAGAAAAGUAAUAUAAUGUGGAAACAAACGAGCAGACUUGGCCACAAAGAGGCCACAUAAAGAAUCAAGAACAAGUUUUAGAGUAACGAACAGACAUGAAAGAAAAUUGUGAAAAAAAUGUUGCAUACAUCCAGAACAAUAACAUCCUUACAGUAGUAACCUUCAUAUGCCGAUGAAAAUCAUUUUCCAAGAAUACAAAAUGUACUUGAAACCAUGCAAUAUGCAAGGAGGGUCACAAAAAAUGGGGACUAUGCAAAAUAUCCAAAACUAUUACAGAAGUCUUACUUUGUUACUUUAAUAGCCUCAUGAAUAGCCCGAUCGUACUCAUCUGCACAUUAUUCAAAACAAAAUCUCUUAGAAUGUAAGGAUAAAAAAUAAGUAGAUAAGGAAGUACAGAGUGAUAACAGGAUACAUACAGAAUAAAUUAACAAUCAUUGAUCAUAACGGAUAAAGAAAUAAAAAUCUGUUCUCAAGUUCAAAGCUUACCCUGAAACUCCUCUAAUUUCCCAGACAUCAUUUAUAAACAAUCAGCUAGAGUUAGGGCCAGUGUUUGAUGCAAUCAAAAUUAUUGGAGCAAUGUCACAUGUUGAGAAGGAGGUAGCCAAACAAAAUUUUCAUCAUACCAAAUGUGUAGCUGACAGGCCUACGGUUGCGACAGGAACGAGUAGUUCCAGCACCACAAGAAUUUCUCAAAGUAUUCAGAUGCCUCUCUUGCCUUUCUUUCUGCUUUAGUGCCCUUUCUUUCUUCUGUAGAAUACAACAGUUUUAGUAUAAACAACACAAGCCUAAGCUGUUGCAUAAGGUUCACUGCUAAAGACAGUACCCACAAUUUCAAAAUUAACAGCCACUGCAAAAGUUUACCUUCUGAAGUUUCUCAAGAACAGGAAUAGCAUUGGUUUCAAUAAUCUUAGCAACAGAAACAUCUGCUACAACUUUGCUUGAUGAGAGUUCAUCCUACCAUGACAGGGAAGGGAUAAUUUCUUUUAUGAGAAACAAAUUUUAGUAAUAAUACUCAUAAAACAAAGUACAAAACCCCGGUGAACAAGAAGUCUACCAACAAUUGAAUACUGAUUUUAGUCUUGUGAUAAACAAAAACUUUGACUUACUACAACUUUACGAAAUUCCUCGAGAUUGGUUGCCAGUGUUUCCCACUGGAGACUAAUAUUUGCCAGGUUUAAACAUCCUUUUCCCCUGCUCUUUGCCUUUGACUCAAGGGCAGUUACUUCCUUGUAUAAUCUAUGACCGGUAAUCGUAGUUCCCUCGUACCUGAAAUGAAUGCAGUAACUGGUAUUACAACUGAUCGUGCUAUCAAAGGCAUAAAAUUAAUAACAUAUCAAAAUAUUACCAAUAGGAAGUUCCAUUUCCAUCUCCUCCUAUCUUAUUUUUGCGAAAGAAAGAAACUUCAGUUCCUUGUUUCAGAGCAUCAUUAAUAUAAGCUAAUGCAUCAUCUUGCUGGGAACCCCAAAAAAAAAAAAAUAAAGAGUUAUUUAUAUCACACCAUCUUUCAACAACAACAAAAAAAUUUACUUAUAUCAAACUCCCAUAUAUACUUCCAACAUAUAAUCACAUGUUCAGGUAUAAUGCAAUUGUAACAUAAAAUUAGGUGAUCCAAUGGUUAAAAAGCAUGUAAACCACCUAGACAUAUAGAAACAAAUACAGGACAAAUUGGUAGGACUUAGUACAUCAGCUCUGAGUUCACAAAGUGCUUUUAAGAGUAGUAAGCGUUUUGUUGGAUCGAGUUCCUUGUAACGAGAUAUCUCUUCUCUGCAAAAACAGCACAAAUGGCAAAAAUUAUAGUUGAUUUUUUAAAAAAAAAACUAAAUCAGAUUAAAUACAGUCAAACUAACACAUUGUCAAUACCCUUUAGCUGCCACUAGCGGAAUCUCCCCCUCAGCAACCUGCAGUAAAGAGAAAAUAUAUUGCUGCAGGUUAUACACAGGCUAUAUAAAGAAAGGGGGCAAAAGGAGUCAAACUCCUAGAUUCUAAAACAACUCACCCAUGGCCACCAUGUUGCAAGUUUCUUACAAAGCACAGUCACCCAUGCAUCAGAGCCAUCCAAUGCUUUACUUGCAGGUGGUAUUCCCUGGAAAGAACACAGGUUAGAAUGAGAUGAAGAUGAUCAUAUGUGGAAAAGGAAAGAAAACAAGAAAAGACAAAUAUUUUGUAUAGGUAGGGAUUUCAGACCCAGCUGAAAACAAAUCAAAUUGUUUUCUUUAUAAUUUUUGAAAUCGAUGUAUUCCUACCAAGACUAUCCUGUUUGUUUCUUAGUCCAAAAACUCUCCGUAAUCAGUAAUAAAACUGACUUCAUUGUUGUCUUCCCCAAAACCGAUUGUUCAGUCAAUCAUCUAUCAUAGUCUAAACAGAGAAAGAAUCAGCUAAGAUAUUUAAACUUGGGUAAACAAAAUCAAUCUUUGAAUGAAAGAAUAUGACACAGUUCAACUAUUCGAUUCUUAAGUUAAGCUUAGGCAAAACAGCAUUACUAGACUGAACAUAUAUAGUAAUAUAUCACUUAAAUAAUUAAAUUCUUAUAUUUACCAUAUGUAUCACAUUCUACAAAUCCAUGACUUAAGAAAAUCUAUUGAGGCACAAUUCUGCCUAAUCCCCCAAAAAUAAACAAAGCAAAAGAAACCAUUAGACACCAUUUCUCACCCUUGUCUUCAUCUAACAAUAUUCCAUAUAUUAGCAACAAUCACAUAUCUCGUUAAAUGAAAACACCAAACACCAAAUCAGAUGCCCAUUCAAUGUCAAUGAGUAAUAGCAAAAUGUAAAACACAUUAAUGCACCAACAACUAUAAGCCUUUGCUCACACAUUCUAAUCGCUCCAGAGGCAAUGGUGUUUCAUAUAAAGUUGUAAACAACUUAAGAAGCAUAUAGUAAAAUCAAACAAACUAAUAUAUAUGAUCAAAGAAAUUUUUAACCUUCAACAGGGCAAUGUGAAGCUGAGCAAGUGCACCGCCUGGGUUUAUCAAACCCAUCUCGAUCUCUUCAGCUGAUAUUUUCGAAGCCUUCCCAACCACUGGCUCAAAAACCUACCAAAACAACACCAACAUUACAAAACGAAAACAAAUGCAGAAUAAAAAAUGCGACCUCUCUCUGUGAAACCAACAAAAUAGGAUCUUACGAUCAAGAAGUCGAGGACGGAGGCCAGUUCCCAUCGCUGACGAAGCUUCGCGACCUGAGCCUUUAGAGAAUCUUCCUCUUUUUCCUCUUCUUCCUCCAAAACCAUCACUUCCACGUCUUCCUUCGCUGACCUCUUUUCUUCUUUGACGACGUCGUUCGCCUCCCGCCUCCGGCGACCCCCAGCCAUACCGCACGGACAAAGAUAUGCUUAGAGAGAGAGGGAGAAUAAACGAAGCGGAUGAUGAAAUUCAAUGAAAAGGGAGGGAGAGUUGUGGGCAAUUAAAGUUGGGGUGAAAUGUUGUUUCGAGGGUUUUCCCGCCUAAAUCUUUUUUUUACCAGAGAUCGUGGUUAAGGUUACAUUUCUAGGGUUAAUUUGAAGACCGACUUUUCGACUCUCCCCCUCUCUCCAAUGUUAGGUCUCUGUCUCUCUGUCCGAGACGGAACGCUGCGUUUCAACACAAUUUCUGAUUAAAUUAAAUUAAAUUAGAAUUAGAAUUAUAAAAGGGAGACUUUGAAAAAGCCCAAAGGAGAGAGAAAAUUUUUAAAAGAAGCAAAAAUGGACAAAAUUGCCCUUAUUUAUUUUUUGAUUUCCUAAGAAAUCCUUUACAUUUGCAUGUCUUUAGUUUGAAAGUUGAGAGGUUAUUCUGUCUUUUUUGAAAAAGCUUUGGCUUUUUCCAAAAGUGAAAGUUUUUUUAUGGGUAAAACCUAAAUUUACUAUUAUAAAACUUAUGAAAGGCUCGUUUGGGAUUUAUUUUGUUAAGAAGCACUUUCGCUAAUAAGCAUUUCUUUAAGAGUAACAUUAAAAGAGUAUCAAAAUUUUAAUGGCAAAUCAAAGCGUUCUUUUGGAAAAGUACUUGAAAGUGAAUUUUGAAUAAGCUCUUUCUAGGUACUAAUCCAAAAUUUUAUGACCCUUAAAUACUUUAUAAUUUUUCUGCCAAAUACUAUCAAAAUCGCUUUUAUUGUUAAUUUUCUUUUUAAAAUAACAUGUUUGAUAAAUAAUAUAUUAAAAGUAUUUUGAGUAUCAACAAAUGUUAAAUCGUUUGGUAAAAUAUACAGAGACGUGUGGAUAAAUAUUAAAAUAUACAUGAUGGAAAGUAUUAUGUGCUAAACAUGUGAUAGAAGUGGAGAUUAAGAUAAAGACAGUAGUGGUGACAAAAAUAAUAAUGGUGUUUUCAUCGUGUUGAAGAAGACUAUCUUCUUUUUACGGGUUCUUCUGCUCCUUUAUAAUGUUCUUGCGUGUGUGCAAUUCUCUUGAUCAUAUGGUAUGGUGCUUCUUCACUAAUCUUCUGUGGUUGUUGGAUGAAAUUUCGAAUUUUUUUAAUUUUCACCAAUGCAAGAUAGAUUCGUUGUUCUGUUUUGACAUUUUCGCUGUUGUGAAACGUGUGUUUCUUUAUGUUCCUCGUUCGUUGCUAGCUUGUAUUUUGUCCUAUUUGGAUUUACUAUUGCUAGUUAAGUUGGGCUAUUUGGUUUAUAUUGGCUUGGGCCUAAGCUUUUGUCUUAUCCGUUCUUCUAGGGUAUGCCCUUCCCCCUUUUGGUCCAAUGAUACCAAGGAGCCCCUAAAAUAAGGGGCCUAUAUUAUCUACCCUUCCAAGUUGCAGAGAGACUGAUCUCAGUAUAGAAGUGGAGAUUGUGGCAAACAUGGUCUUAGCUCAGUGGUAGAGUUGUUGUCGUGCAUUUUGGUGGUAUGCGAGUUUAAUUUUGGUUUUUCAUUGCACCGUGUGUGUGCGCGUAAGAAUAGCCCCUCUCAAUUACACCGUGUGUGUAAAUGUGGCAACCAAAAGAAUAAAAAAAGUAACGGAUUAUGUGAAAGCAUGUUAAGAUAUCACGGGAUCUCUUGUAGUUUAUAAAAGGGAGAUUCACUAUUAUACCCAAGAUGGGGGUCCAAAUUAUAAAAAUAUCCUAUAUAAAAUGGACUUUAGAAACACACCCAAAGCCCAUUUACAACAUAACAAAAAAGCUUUUAACUUCUUAUAAAUUACAAAACUGCCAUCAAUUUCUUAAAACAAGCCCAACCCCAAAAUCUCAUAAAAAUACCCAAAACACUCAAUAGGGCAUCAAAGUAAUUUAAUAAUCAAUAUUAAAUUCAAUAAGGCCAGCUAUCAUUUUUUGGGUUUUUUUUGGGUUUGUUUAUAGGAAUUCAAUUGUGUAGGGUUUAUUUAUAAUAUUAGUGCUAGAAAUGGGUAUAUCACUAAAUAUCUCUUUAUAAAACCCCAAAAAAAAUGUGAAAACAUAUAUAGCUUCAGGGGGUUUAUAUGUAAAUAUGAUAAAUCUCAAGAGCUGUAGUCCAUACAAUUUAUUUGAAAACAUAAUAUUAUAUCUCAAUAUUAUUAGUUUUAGGUUAGUCUUUUGACCAAAAGUAGCGCAAUGACUAGUUUGGAUUAAACUUUAAAGACAUUAUAAAAAGACCAUGACCGUGGAAAGCAAGCAAUAAUGCCAGCUUAUUGGAAAUGUAAUAUAAUAAAGAACGUCGUUUUUGCAUGUAAUGGUUCCAAUGUUGCGCGCAUCAUCCAUUUUUUUAGUGCUAGCUUGCAGUGAUGACUUUCUGAAGCCAACACAUGGAAAAUCCAGGGAAGAGAAGAACGUGCAGCGACAUUUCCACCCAGAAAUGCUGUCUCAUAUUUUAUGACCUCAAAAUCCUGUUAACAUGUUUUUGUUUAAAAUAAACAACAAGACGCUGAAAACAAUUAGUUAUAAAAACAAAUAUUGCGUAAUGAAAAGGAAGAUAAGUCUUUCUAAAUUUCGACCAAAAAAUAAGUCUUUCUUAAUUAAAAACUAUUCUAUUAAAAAUAUUGUUGCUUAAGAACUUCCGAAGUACCCCACAAAUAUAUAAACUUAAUAUUUCCUUCACACGUUACACAUAAGAACAAGUUUCGUUCAUAGAAAUCACCUACAGCUACUUGACAUUCGUGGCUCGAACUUCUGGAAGACGGCCUACGCGCUUAACAUAGGACGAAAUUACACAAAUUUAAACUAACCUAGUGUUACAGACAUACCAAGAAAAUUAUUGUCUGUUGGGAAGCAUGGUUUUCAGAGACCCUUCAAACUAAAAUUUAGACAAAGUUGAGGAGGCUCCUUCUAACAAACAAAUAAAAAAACAUCCACCUAAUCAAAAAUUAUUGUCUGUUGGGUAUUCAUUCUAAUCUAAUGAUAAAUUGUUGUUGUUUUUUUUUUUUUUUUUUUUUUUUGGUCUGAAAAAUUGUUGUUGCUGAUCAAUGUUACUUUAUAGUAAUCAAUCACUCGUUUGUAUCCAAAUCCAUGAUGUGAUCGAUCUUAUGAAUUCAACUAUUCAUAUUUUUAUAUUGUCAUUCAGAUAUUUUCUUUAUGCAAAAAAAGGCAAAUCGAAAAACAUUUGGUAUGCCAUCUAAUUGGGAUUAAAUAAAUAGAAAAGCACAAUAUUUUCGAUAAAUAAUGAAAAUAAUAGCAAAGAUAGUAAAAUGGUCAAACGAGUUACCUUUAUAAAAAUAAAAUAAAAAUUUAUGCAUUGAGGACUUAAAAUUGAAUGGUUCAUAUCAUAAACGAUUAAUAUACGACUAGAUUAAAAUUUAUGCUACUUGAAUGGUUCAAUUUUAAGUCCUCGCAUGUAUGACUGUGAUUUGUCUGUAAGGAGGAACGUCAUUAUAUGUAAGAAGCUAAAGUUUUUUCCUUUGCUUACUCUUUAUAUAUAUAUAAACAAAACGACAUAUAGUAAGUAUUUCAAUUUUUCUGAAUAGACAAGAAAACUUCAUCAACUUGGUGAAUGUGAGAAGCUUAAAUGAUCUUUUCCGUUUUAUCUAACAAAUUGUGUGUUUUUUUUUAAAAAAUAUUUUAAAUAACUAAACAAUUUAUAAUUUGGAUUUUUUUAGAAGGGAUGACCCUUAAAAAAGCAGGAUAAAAAGGUAUAAAAGAUUCCAAUUGUUGAAAUAUGCAUUGUUGGAUAACCUUUAAAAAAAGAUGUGUACAUUUAGUGUCCGUUUGACAUUGCUUAUUUAGGAUGAUAAGUGAAAAUUUUUGGGAAGCUCAAUCUAUUUGGUAAACUAUGAGAAAAUCACUUAUUGUUAAAAAUUGUUGUGAGAGCUAAUGAGGUGCUUUUAUUUUCUGAUUAUGCAGGAACAAUUUUGAAGGGGCGUUGGGUUUAAUGAUUAUACCGCAAUCAUUUUAUAAUUAUGCGGGAAUCAGUACCAACAACACUUUUAACAAAAAUUUAUCAAAUGCCAAAUUACUUUCUCUCAUUGCAAAUCUAACAGCGAUUAUUUUCAUAGCACAACAAUGCCAAACUAAUACAUAUAUUUAAUUUAAGACAUCCUGAACAUAGAAAAACUGCUAUAUAUAUAAAGUUGUGUAUAUCAGAAGAUCACUAUCGCUUAGUAUUGGCUAUCUCUCUCUCUCUCUCUCUCUUUCUCUGGCUGUUACGAUGCACAAACAAUUUUGCGGGCUCUCUCGGCUGUGAUUGAUUACACACAAACAUUUUUGCUGGCUACGACUCCUGAACGUGAACAACAACAAAUGGAAGCCCUAGAGAAUAAAAUAAAAGAGAGAAAAAUUUUACUUAAGGAACAUGAUAGUCGUCUCAGUUAUCUUCAAUCAAAAGGCUUCGAACUUGGAAACUUCUACUUGGUGUUUCAAGGAGUUAUUCUGACGGCAAUUGCAAGUGGUGACUCAGUGUUCAGAUGUUUAGACCGUAGCCUGCUCAUCAGCGUUUCUGCAUUAGCAACCCUCCCUAAUUUGUUUGCAUUGUAUUUAAUUGGAGAGGAAUAUAUAAAAAUCAUCACCCAGCGAGACGAUAUCUCGAUUCGGUGCGAUACGGACAAUAACGAAUUAGCCAUUCUCAAGACAGGAAACCCUCAAAAGGUUACCGUUGGAAAACGUGUUGAUAGUUUGAGAAGGCAUGUACGUAUAUUCUGCUUCGUCAUUUGCAUGGCUUGUUUUCUGGGCGUUUUCGUCGUCGUGGUUUUGGUUUGCAUGAAGACUCUUCGCAAACCAGGGACUAAAUGUAAGCACUAACAAAGCUGAAUGAUAGAUAUAUAUAUACAUAUAUAUAUAUAUAUGCUAGCUAGUGUUUCCUUUCAGCUUUUCGUCGAUUUUUUGUUUGGGAUCAAAAUAAAGCUUAUAAUUAAUGCUUUGUAUGGUUUUAAUUUUUCCUUCCGCACAUUUGUGAAAUUGGAAAUUGCUAGUGAAUUUUAUACCUAUCAUUAUGUACCAGAGUGACUACAUAUACGAGUCUUGUUCUUCAUCAUCUGCAUUAUUUAAAUUAAUCUACCUUUUCUCCUUUCCCUGCAUUUUAGAAGAUUUUGACCAUCAAAAUACACGUCAUAAUAAAAGUUUUCUUUUUGUUUGUUCUAAACGUUCGUAUUCUGUAGAUAUUCUUGCAUACAAUCAAUUUGUGUCUAUGUCUCUCGUUACCCUAAUGAGAUAGACCAAUGGCGACGGUGGUACAUGCCCUGCCCCCUCUCUUUGUUUUUCAUUCAAGUGAAUAUUAUUGUUAUACUUUGGAGUGCAAUGGCCUAAGGUUUUUUGUAUCCAUCGAUACAUGUACUGAUUCUAUUAACUUGAAGUUCUUGAAUACAGAAAAAUACUUUUGGACCCGAAGAAAAAAAAAGGCCAUAGUUUUAUAGGAUUCUUAGGGAUAUCUAAAUUAUUGUCUAAAUUAUUGUCUCCGUCUCUGAGUUAGACAAGACAAAUUUAUAAUUUUAUAAUUAAUAAAAAAUGCUCCUCUUGUUCAUAUUUAAUGAAACAAAUAAAAAAUGGCAGGCAUGGUAUUGUGUCCAACUUAAAAAAACUAGUAGGUAGAACAACAAAAGAAAAAUAUCAAAUUUGACAUUGCGUAAAGAAUAACCAUAUAUUUAACAGUCUUUUUUAAUUACAAAAUAAUCUAUUUAUAAAUAGGUGCUUAAGUAAACCCACAAAUACUUAAUAUUUUCUUUAGACAUACAGCUUGGACAAGUUUUUUUUUUCUUCAUAUAAAUCACCUACAGCUGUUUUAGAUUCCAUGGCGUAUCUGGUAGAAGGCCCACGUCUACGCCACCACCUGGGCCAACCACCAUUUCUUGUAAUUAUGGGUAUUCUGUGGCUUUUAAUUCCAUUUGAAAUCAUUUUUUAUUAUUAUUAAGAAGAAAAAAAUACACAUUUAAUUUCUAAUUUUUCUUUAUUUUAUGAAAUAUCAUGUAUUUACGAAAAACUACAAAAGAGUUUGUUUACUAAGUUUACUUGUACUUGGUAAAGAAUAUAAGUAUGAUAUCACAUCGAAAAUUUGACUAAAUAAAAUAUAAAUUUAUAUGAAUGGUUCAAUUUCUAAAAGCACCGAUACCUUUUGUGAUAAAACUCUAUAUCUAUUGGGCUUUAUAGGUGGUUAAGUUAUGAACAAUAUCCGUGUUGCUAGUAGUGGACCACUGGCCCAUCUCUUUCAAAUUUAACUUUCACUUUUAACAAAGAAAGAUAUAUAUAACAUAAGGGUUAAAAUAUAGAUGAUUAUUUUUGCUCACCACUUUAACUUAAGAUGCAUCAUCGGUAUCAUCACUAUCCUUCUCAACACUUGACACGUGUUCAUGAUCAUAACUACGGUUCCACAAAUACAAAAGCAAAGAGUUAACUAUGGUUAUUCCUAUGAAUACAUAUCAAGUGUUGAGAAAUAUGAUAAAGAUACACCUUGGGUUAAAAAGGUGAGCAAAAAUAUUUUCAAAUUAUAGUAAGGUUUAGAUGAGUUUUGUUUUAGUAAUCUAAUUUAGUUUUUAAAUUUUCAUGUUUCUACUUUUAUUUAUGCAUCACUUUUGUUCUUACUUACUGUCAAUUUUGUUAAUUUUGUUGUUGUUGUUAGUAUUAGGGAUAAAUCAGACAAUUCACUUCACAUUUUAAAAUAUUGAACUUUAAAAACAUAAUAUACAAUUUAAAAAUAAAAAAUUAAGUUGGGCGAUACAAAAUUUGUAUAUUUUUAAUCUAUAUAUAUAAAGCAAAAGGCAGAGAAUAGUGAAACAUUCAAAAUACCAGAAAAAUGUCAUUGGUUUAAGAAUUGAAAUUAUUAAUUAAAUGAGAAUAACAUGGUAAACUCACACUUUUUCAUAUUAAAAAAAUUAAAAUUAGAAGAAAAAUUAAAUAAUUGAUCAUAUUUUAUAGAACACAAUUACCCAUUAUUUUUUUAAUUCUAAAAUAAUUUUUAAAUUUUUUUAAAAAAAACCUCUUGCAAGCACAGCGUAUGGAGAAACUAGUAAUAAAUUAAACUGUUUAGUUUCUGAAGAUAAAGACGUGCAAUUUUAAUUAAUUAAUUAUUUGUUGGGUACAAUUUUAACUAAAGCAUACUAUAUAUUUAAAAUUGAGAACGUGACAACGUUCACAUGCGAAGUUUGAAAUUAUCCAACGUCAAUCAUAUUUCCUUCACCUUAUUAUAAUAUUUCUUACAAUAAAAAAUUAACGCAUUAUAUAAAAGUUCCACUUUGCACGCCAUUUGUCGUGUCAAAGAAGGCCAUCCUGAAUCCUGAUCCAGAAAAUCCUUAAAAUAAUUAGGCAGAGUCCAAAGUUUGAUAGAAAUUUGGUUUUAUGGCCCGCCACUUUACCAAGAAAAGUAGCUGCUCCCUGUAAAACCCAUCACCACCGUCAAACAUGACACAGCCUCCACCAUCAAAACCCCACGCCAUAAUCAAACCCACCACCACCACCUGCAAACCUGAAACAGCCUCCACCAUCAAACUCUCAGCCACCACUGCCACCGCCACCAUUUGACUUUCCCCGGGAGACUUAGAGAGAGUUUGAGAGAGGUAGAUAUCUGAGAUCAGAGAGAGGCUUGGUACCACCGCGGAGGCGAGAGAGAGAGAGAGAGAGAGAGAGAGAGAUAGAGUUUGUGUGUGUGUGUGAAGCUGAUGGUAGUAUAAGGAUGAUAGGCGUUGGUGGUAAUUAGUGGUCAGUUUUGCACACAGUGAAAAAGAAGAAGGGAAGUUACGACAAUGAGGGGAUGUUUGUUUAGGGUUGAGAUGCGUUGCCGGACGUGCCCUGAAAUGGCCUUUGGUUUAUUCUUCGUCAUCAUUGGAAAUGGCCUUUUGUUUGUUAUAUUUUCAACGGAAACAAAUGAAAUGGCCGAGGCGGGUUCAAACACUUGUUACCCGACAAAAAGCUCGACGUGGGCCGCUAAGAGUUGACCUAACGGGCGGUGAUUUGUGGGGUUCUAGUAGUACAGCUAACGCUGUCGCCAUUAAAUAAUAACACGUUUGAAAGAUAUUUAAGAAGAUUGAAAGCUAGUGGUAUUAAAAAAAGGAAACAAGUUUUGAAUUCUAAAUCCAUUAAAAUUAAAAAAUUAUUCAAUCACUUUGGACGAAAUGCAGUAGGCCUUUUUCCUUCGAGAAACCCAACCACCACCGCUUAGUUAUAUUACUGGUAUCUCAUCUGCAGGAAGGCCAGAUUUCAUCAACACCAAAGCUUCAGAAAACCGAAAAUGGAUUUUCAAUCAAAAGAACAAGAGAGUGAAUCGAAUAAGCUGAAAGAGAGGAUCGAAAAACUAGGCAAAACAGUGACGGAUCUGGAAACAGCUAUGAUGCUGCUGGUCAUGGGUUAUAUUUUCUUCCAAGGCGCCAUAUUCGCGUCUGUUUUCCACAAUCCCAGCAACAUGUCGUGCGAGUAUUGGUGGAUUCCUUUCUCCCUCUCCUGUCUGAUUUGCGUUAUCUUCGCCAUCCCAUUUCAGUCUUAUGUCGCAAAUUGGGAGCGAACAAAACAUCAUCACUCCUCGGCCUUUCUAAAGCAAGAUUUGCUUAACCACAAGAUGGUCACUUCCUCCUCAGUCGAAACCAGGAUGUAUGAUCAGCCGCAGUCGCAGUCGCCGCCGCAGCUGCAGGGAAUAUUGAAGAGCGAUAGGGCACAAGUUUACCAGAGAAACGCAUUCAUAUACCUGGUUUCUUUAGCCCUUCUGGCCUACACCAUACUUAUUUUGAAGGCAUGCGGAUCCAUUCCCUGCCACGGAGAUGCUACACCCUAGACAUAUAUACAUACGGUAACUUCUCCCACUAAUCCAUUCAUUUGACAUGUAAAGCUGUAUUAUUCAUAGAUGCGGAUCCUCUGUUUAGCUUUUCUCUGCUACCUUCUAUUCUCCACACCACAUGGCACUUCACAGUUUUAUUUUAGGGUAAGCCUAAAGAAAAUUUAUUUUUUCUUUUUGGGGUAAGACACAAGAGUUACAGGUCAAAACCACGAGCACAGCCCCACCAGUAACAUCAGACAGAGUUCAAUGCCUGGAGGGCUUCUCGAGGUACACCAUAUACCCAAACGUGAGGUGAAUUCAUGAUGGCCUAUAUUUGUAGUAAAGUUUGCUUCUCUUAGGUCCUGCUUGAGGAGAAAACUCAGAUGCAAUGGAGAUAUCAUGUUUUGCUAUCCCGGUUAAUAAUGUUAUGUCACAUGAAAGAGUUAUCAUAUGUGUCAUAGCGUUAUUGAUUGAAAUAACAAAAUAGUAUUAUUACCGUUUCAUAAAAGUCUUUCUCUGGCCCGAGAGAAAUAUGUAUGUUGCAUGGAAAUUUUACUUUAAUUAAGGAAGAACAAAAAAAAAAAAAUUUACCUUAUCGAUCUAACCUCAAAGCAUUGUUGUAGCCGUCAGUCUCUCUUCUCUCUUGUUUCAAUCUCCGCAUCUCCCUUUUCCCUAAAACUUGUGUAAACACCUCUCUUCCCAACUCACAAUCUAUCCUCUUUCCCUAUGAAAACUAGCCCUUGCCAAUUCCCCCGAACUACAACAACUAUGUUAGCUUUCAUCUCACAGUUUCCCCCUUUAAACCCAUGCACUUUAUCUUAAGAUUAAGAAAUCUUUAAGACAACAUAAAAUUCUCAAAUAUGGAACUGUUUAUUGGAAAGGCUUUUUAUCGCAAAUGGUUAACGAAAAUUAAUAAAAGUCGAUAACCGAUCUUUGUAGGUGUUUGUGGCCUAAAUGCUUACCAACCCUUUAUCUCCUACAUAUCUAAACUUUUGUUACAAAAGAAAUAUAAAUCACCAAUAAUACAGUUAAAGUGGGAGAAAGAAUGGGAAUUUGGAGAUAGAUGCUUUGAAAAACGAAAGGAGGUAAGAACAAAUGGUGCCAGACGUCAAAUAUAACGUUUGGUCCUUGCCUUUUAAGUUUUAUUUAUUUUUUAGUUGCGUGGGGUAUUAUCUUUUAUUUAUUUUUUAAAGUUUUAUUUAUUUUUAGUUGCGUGGGGUAUUAUCUUUUAUUUAUUUAUUUAAGUGUGACGUGUUAACUUUUUAGUUUAUUGGAUGAAAUAUACAUAAGGUGCUAUGUGAAGAAGAAAAGUUAAAUUAGAGGAUGAGAUACCAAAUAAUAUUGUUAUACUAAUUACCACUUGCUUUAUGCAUUCUUUAGUGUGACUGAGAACGCGCUGGACGGUACCAAAUAAAGCAACGGCGGCAAGGCUGUUCCCGAAACUUUCCUUGGUGCUUCGUUGCUGAUGUAAUAUUAACCCUUACAAAGUUACUUUGCUUUGUGGUUAAUUUGGGCUUAACGCCCCGUCAAACUUAAAAGGAAGAAAAAAAAAAGAAAGAUACAUUGUGCUAAUUUGAUAUGAAAAAAACCCUCGUCAUUUGAGUAUUCUGAAGUUCAUCCUUUGGGGUUCGCUUGUAAAUUAUUAUUAUUUUUUUCUUCUUGUAAAUUAUUUAAUUUGAUAUGAAUUCAUGUAUUUUCAUAUAAAGUCAGAUUUAACCACUUGUGUUUUAAAGCAAGUGUAAUUACAUGGGUUAGGCAAAUUAGCAGGACAGUGACUCCGGACCCUUAUACCCAAAUUUGAAUUCAUGUCUUUGUAAAUUAAAUUAAUUUCUAUUGUUUCAGAAUAUCGUUUAUAUUAAAAAAUAUAUAUAUCAUGUGAAAUUAUUUCAAACACAAAUCUGACCCAUUAACCUAUUAUAUCCAAAUAUAUAUAUAUAUAUAUGUUUGUGUGUAGAAUAUAAAACGUUACAAACAAUAUAAGCUACAAUUUGAUAAUACAAUACAAAUUCAUAUCUAGCUAGUCUAUUUAACAAACAAAUGUCUAAACAUGUUACCCCAAAAAAAUGUCCGAACGAUGCUUAUAAAUGUUUGAAAUAAACAAGAUCAACUACAUGUAAUCCUCCAAAUUUUGAGGAUUAUUUCAAAUUGGUAUCCCAAUUUUAUGUUGAAAUUAAUAUAACUUAUUGACCACAUAGACAUAGACGAAUUAGUUUAUAAAGAAUAACAUCUAAAUAUUGGCAUAUAAUAGUUUUUUUAAGAAUUUCGGUAUGAUUUUUCAAAAUUGUAGCCAUCAUACUUCCUUAAGAUCAAGAUGGGGUUAUACAACCUCAGUUUUCUUCAAAACACAUAAAAUUCUCAAAAAUGAGACUGCUUUAUAUGCUACAUAUCUGUACUUUUGUUACAAAGUAGUAAUUUGGUAUUAUAUUGUACGUGAUAGUUAAAGUGGGAGAAAUAAUGAGAUUUUUGGAGACGUGUACUUAGAAAAACUUUGAAAACCAAAAGAAGGUAAGAACAAAUGGUGCCAGACGUCAAAUUUAACGUUUAGUCAUUGUGGUUGGCUUUUAUGUUUUAUAUUUAGGUGCGUGGUUAUUAUUUAUUAUUUAUUUAUUUAGAUGUGAGUGGUGUUAAUUUGUUUACUUAGAUAGGGUAAUUAAGGUAUGGAAAUCAGAUCAACUGCUCUCUCUUAGUUGAUCUAAUUCAUGAUUUUGAGUAUUUAAUUAUGGAUUUUACAUGAAAACUAAUUCAUGAUUUUGAGUAUUUAUUAAUUAUGGAUUUUACAUGAAACUCAUAUAAAUUUUAUUCCUUAUGUGUUAGUAAACGUAUGAGAAGUCAAGAAUUAAAAUCAUUCCAAUAUCUGUGUGUCAAUAAACAUACUUUUAGUUAGUUUUUUUUUUUUUUGUUGUUGAUAAAUUCUGGAAUUGCAUUCAUUAUUCAACAAAAAAAAAGCCAAUAGCCACAAAAGGCCAAUACAAACUAGCCAUAAAAGGCCAUUACAAUAACGGAGCGAUUCAACAUAAAAAUUAAGACAAUCUGGUGCGCCUCUCAACUAAGAUUGCAAACUCAGAACAACCAAAUAGAGACAACGCUUGAAAAAAUCAAACCAUAACAAUAUAAAUAAAACUCUCAUAAAAUAGAGGUUGAAAACUCUCACAAAAGGAGAGGUGAAAAACUCUCACAAAAUGAGAGAUGAAAACUACACAGAAAACCCAAAGAAUCUCUACGACUUAUUCCAAACGUAAAAAAACCUCAAAAAAGGAUGGUGGUAGAGAUACGGCACUGAAACACAAGUAAAGAUCUGACAUUUAGACACAACCGCCUGUAAUAGGUGGAGAAAAAUCAUAACAAAACGAAAACAAAUAGGGAAAACCUUCUAUCUCUGAAAAUGAGAGAAGAAAAGAAAAGAGGGGAAUGGAGAAGGAGAGAGGGGAGGAAGAACAUUGACUUUCUCCUCCUCAAAAUAAAAAUGACUCACGAGUGUUUUUUGGGAGAAUACUUAUAGUUUAUUAGAUAAAAUAUAAAUAAGGUACUAUAUGAGAAAGAAUAGUCAAGUCGAGGAUCGGAUACCAAUCCAAUAAUAUAUUAUACUAAUGUUGGUUUUAUUUUUUUGGUUGUAAAAUAUUUAAUUUGAUAUGAAUGCAUGUAUUGUCAUAUAAAGUCAUAUUUGACCAUGUGUUGCGUUUUAAAGUAAUCAUGUGAAAUUAUUUUAAACACAAAUAUGACCCGUUAAUUUAUUUACUUAUUUAACAUUUUUUUCAUUUAUUUAUAUAUAAAGGUAUAGACAAAGAAUAGUGAAACAUUUAAAAUAUUUCAAAAUGCCUUAGUUGAUUAAAGAUUUGUUUAGGAGUGAUUAUGGAUAGACCAAUAAUCAUUUCUAUGGAGAAUCACUUCUCCAUAUAAUUACUUUAUGUGAUUUAAAGUAAAUGUGGGCAUUCAAACUGAAAAACUGAGUUGAAUUGAGCCCGAAAAAACCGAAUUGACCAAAAAAGGACCAAGUUGACUAAAAACCAAACCAAACUCAUUUGGUACAGUUUCGAUUCCAAUUUUUGCAAUGAAAAAAAUCAAACUAUGCCAAACCAGACCGGUUGUCUUAAUAUUUUUUUAGGGUUAAUCAUUUUAUUAGUUCCUGAAUUUAGACCCGAUUUGCAUUUGAGUACCUCAAUUUCUAAAAUGGUUCCCGUGGUCCUUUAACUUUAGUUUCGUUAUGACAAAUGGUCGUGUCGUCAAUUUUGUUAACUUUUCUUUUAAAUGCAGAGACAAAAUGAUAUUUUUAUAUCAAAAUUUAUUAAAAUAUGAUAACUUUUCUCUCUUUCUUCUUCGACUUCUCCUAUUUUCUUCCACAUUUCUCUCUCUUUUCUUUGUGUUGUUUGUCUCUCUCACUUUAUGUCUCUUCCUAUCUUUUUUUUCUCUCAAUUUAUUUCACCAUCAAGCCACCAUCACAUAUCUAGCAGAUCUUAUGCAUGCAAGAUCGUAUACUACUAGAAUAUUGUAUUUAUAGAGUAUAGACGCUCAACUAUAUGCUUAAAAUAUCUUUUUUUUUAAUUUUCUUUUUUAUUAAUUAAAUAAUAUAUUAACCUUAUUUAAAUACUCUCAUUAUAAAUUAUGUUUUAAUUAUUAUUUCUUUAAUGAAUAAUUAGUGUUAAAUAUAUCAAUAAAAUCCUAGAAAUUUAGGUUUGGUACCCAAAUAUUUUAUAUGUUUAAAAACAAAAUUAUUUUCUUUAAAUAAAUAAAAAGCGAGAAACCUCUCCUUACCAAAUUCACCUCUGCCAACGAAAUGUCUUCGGGAGAGAUCUAAUCUGGCACAUUUCACCGAGAUAGAAAUGGGCCAAUGCAAUUUCAUAUCUUUAGGUCCAAUACAUUUUCUUUUUAGUAAUUAAAUAAUAUCUUAGCCUUAUUUAAUUACUUUCAUAUGUUAUUAAGUUUUAAUUAUUAUUUAUUUACUGAAUAAUUAAAUAUUUUAAUUAACUUCCUAAAUUAUAUUACUUAAUAAAUGGUUUUUAAAAAUAAUAAUUAAUCAAAUAUUUAAAUAAUAAUUAUUCAGUAAGUAAAUAAUAAUUAAAACAUAAAUACUAAAUAAAGUAUUUAAAAAAGAUAAAUCAAGAUUAUGCUAUUUAAAAGGGUAUAGCCGCGUGGCUAUACUGUCAAAAUAGUCAAUGGGGUUAAAAUAUAAGAGUAUAGCCGUGCGGCGGUUCUAUUAAAAUUCUGUUUAUGGUGUAUUGCCGCCCGGCUAAACUGCUUGAAUAUUCUAUUUAUCUAGUACAGCCGUACGGCUAUACUCCUUAAAUAGGAAAGUAUAGCCCGGCGGCUAUACGAUUAAAACCUCCUUUUUAAAAUUUCAUUUUUUAUUAAUUAAAUAAUAUCUUAGCCUUAUUUAAAUACUUUCAUUUGUAAUUGUGUUUUAAUUAUUAUUUCUUUAGUGAAUAAUUAGUAUUAAAUAUUUUAAUAAAAAUCCUAGAAAUUUGGUUUUGGUACCCAAAUAUUUUAGUAUUCCAAAAAUGGAUUUUAGUCUCGAAACUUAAAUCCAAGUCAUAACGUGAUUCGACAAUAUCAACUACUCAUUGGAGUUUGAUUGAAAUACAUGAACUUGAGUCCCACAUUGGAAAAUAAGAGAAAGUAUCUACUCCUUAGUAUGUUUAGGGUUCGAGGUUCGAGAAAGAGUUUGGAACAAGUUCUGAAGUUAGAGUUUUUUGUUCUAUACUUGAAUUUAAUCAAACUAAUUUUGUAUUAAAAAAAUGUAAACAAAAUAAUUUAAAAUAAUUAAUUACUAUUUAUUAAGUAAUUUAUGAAAUGUGUAAAAUAUUUAAAUAUUCACUAAAAUAAUAAUAAUAAAAAUAUAAUGACUAAUUAAAGUAAUUAAGAAAGGCUAAGAUAUUACGUAAUUACAUAUAUUAAACAAUGGAAGUUGGCCCAAAAAAGAGAGUAAAGAAACUAAUUUUAUAUGUUUAAAAUUAUUAUUAUUAUUUUUAAUAAAGUGAGAAAACCUCUCCCGAUAGCAUUUCGUCGGCACAAGUCUAUUCCGGCGAACUUUGCUGGAUUAGACCUUUUCCGACGAAAUUUUCUCAUGAUGACGAAAUGUCGUCGGAAGAGAUCUAAUUCGGUAAAGUUUGUAGAGAUAGACCUGUGCUGACGAAAUUUCGUCGGGAUAAAAUUUAAAAAUAAAUAAAUAUAAAUUUAGUAUUUUUAGGUCCAAUAAAUUUUUAUUUUAAAUUAUCUUUUUAGUAAAUAAAUAAUAUCUUAACAUUAUUUAAUUACUCUGAUCUAUAAUAAAAUCUUUGCGGGUUGGAUACAGCCAAAUCCGGAUUAAAGGCAAUUUUAGCUCUUUAUAGACUGCAUUGCUGGUCCAUGUUCUAUAUCAUGGAAUAUUCUUACUAUUAUCAAGGAUAUUCAUCAUCGAGCCUUAUCGUUUGUGAGUAUUUUUUUUUUUCAGCAUAUCCUUAGAGAAGUUAAUUUUGUGGAUGAUGAUUUUGCUCCUAAUUUUUUGAUUUACAACCUCCUAAGUUAUUCUUGAUGAUUUUGCUUCUUUUCCAAACCCCUCUUCUUGGCAUAAAAUUAAUAAAAGAGAGAAUUUUUGCAGCCACUUAACCACCACACUGCUGAUGACUUUGUGUUUAUAAAUUAUGGAAUAUAGUAUAUAUAAUACUUGCGAGACUUUCAAAAAUUAAACAAUUUAAACUCUCACGCUCUCACACACAAUGGGGUUCGAACCCCUCUCCACUCCAGAAUUUGCAGCCAUUUCACCACCAUGCUAACUUUGUGAUUAUAAAUUAUGGAAUCUAGUAUAUAUAAUACUUGCGAGACUUUCAAAAAUUAAACAAUUUAAACUCACUCACGCUCUCGCACACAAUGGGGUUUGUACCCCUCUCCACUCUGGAAUUUGCAGCCACUUCACCACCACGCUGCUCAUAAUUUUGUGAUUAUAAACUAUGGAAUCUAGUAUAUAUAUUACUUGCAAGCUGCUUUUCAAGUUUCAACUUUUCAUAGGAACUCUAUGUGGUACUAAGUCACUUAUGUAUCUUACUAUGCAACGUAUAAAAUGUAAAAUAAUGUAGUAAAUCAUUAUAUAUAAAUGAUUGUGGUGUGUUUAAUCAUUUUUCAUUAAUUACUACAUAUUUUCUAUACUCACGGUGUUUGUCAGCUCGCUAUAUAAUCAAAUUAAAUUAGUUAAAUCCAUCAUGCAAUGCAUUUCCUUCCAAUUUUUUGUGAUAAACUAAUCGAUAAUUGACUAAAUAAGCAUCCUCCAAAGUUUCAAUAAAAAUUUCCAAGUUUUUCUUACAAUUUCCAUGAUUUUUAUUCAAUUUUUAUCGAUAUCGAUAAUAUCCCGAUAUUUCCAUCGAAAUUUCAAUGUUUUUGGACUACCGAUAUUUCCGAUAUCACCGAUAUUUUAGACCUUGCUUUGAACCCACUUACUAAUGAAAUAAUACGUUCAAACCUACGGAGGGGUUAAGCAUGGGGAAAAUUACAGAGUUCAACUGAAGUGGACCUUGUGAAGGAUUAUGAUUUAACAACAUAAUGUCGCAUGGCUAGUGAUAUUAUAAGUCCACAAGACCCGCAAUUUAGGAGAGUUCCAGAUAAAUUGUUGGAGAAUGAUACGACAGAUGCAUAACUUUUCUAUGGAAAAACAAAUACAAAUAGUUGUUGCUUCAAUGGCUCUUCACAACUUUAUAAGAUGUCAUUCAAUGAUAGAUCAAGAAUUCCAACUGUAUGAUGAUGAUGAUGAGCUACUUCCCUCUGGUGGGGCGGGAGUUACUAUAGGAGAAGAGAUGGUUGAAGAACAAAAUCUAACCCAUGGGCGUGAGAUGGAUUACUCAAUCCGACGUCGUUCACUUAAAACCUAGAGGAAAACAAAAGUUGAGUCAGGGUUGGGUCUUCCUCUUCGCGAGGAAUAAGCCAUUGACGGCGCCUCACAGAGCUUACAUCGCAUGGCAACCAUAGUUGCUGUUUGCACUAGCAGAGUGCAUUUUCAGGCACCUCCAAAGUUUUUUCAGGCAAAGAGAGGUGCAGCUGCAUUUCUUUGCACCUCUGUAGAUCAACCCAGUGGUCCUCUUCAUUUAGAGGCUCUAAGUGGCCGUCUUGCCUGCUUAUGUCCAAAGCCACCCUUGGAGUGAGGAAGAGAAAGGAAAAACGCUAGUCAGCUCCAAAUCCACCAUUUGUUUCUUCAAAUAGUUGAGGUUUGCCAGCUGCGGUUGAUCAUGUCCAAGUUGUUGCGUGUGUAGUGAACACAUGAUAUUUGGUCCAAAGCAAAAGCAAAACAGGGAAAACGAAGGUUGAAAUUAAUGGUGUCUUUACAAGCAAUUUCAUUUGUUAAUGCCAUGUUCAUGUAGGUUGAUCAAGGAAUGUCAAACAUGUUGUAUUUUUUAAACACAAACUUCAAAGCAGUAGUACUAUAUGUUUAUUCCCUUCAUUUUUUUUGACCAACACAUUAUAAAUCGAUAAUUACAAUAAACGACAAAAUUGUGGUCACAGCACGAGGGCUCAUUCGUCGAGACAAAUGUUCCUAUAUAUUACAGAGUGCAUAUUGCAAACAAUACAAUGCUUUCGCCAAGAUUUCUGUUGUUCCUUUUUUCAUUCUGAAACUCAUGAGCAGCCCUUUUCUACGAAGAAAAAUGCAUGCUACGUUACUCAAGUAACUUAGAAAGCAUGCAGCAAGAAGCUCAAACGUUUCGAAUUUGAAUCAAACGAUACAUGGACUUGCUCAGAGCACGCCAGAUUUGCCCAGUAACCAUUGUUUUCAAGGUACGAAGAUGCGUGUAUGAAGAAUAAAAGAUGUGAAUUGGUCAUCUGGGCUACAUUUGAUUUCAAUUUGGAGAAACUCUGUCAUGUAUUCUAAUUCUACCUUGAGAUUUUGGUUGUGUUAAUCCUGGAACUUCAAUUUGAAAGUUCAGCUCCAGAAUUUGAUAUCGGACUGUCAUUCUCACUGUUGUGGGCCUUGUGGCAAUUGCUGUUGCUUUGAUAUCCGUAUGCAUUUAUUUGGUGUGAGAGUUAAAUAUAACAUUGUACAUUCAUGACAUUACAGCAAUCGUUGCCGUAGUGGGAUUGAUCUGCAAUUCCUUGUUUUCUUUUCUGAAAAUAUUCAUCAAGUUUUUUUUGAAUGUGAAACGGGACUGAGUCUUUUGACUGAGCAUUAUUUUAAAGAAAUUAAAAGGGGAGUGGUUGAAGAAAGCCCAAGGGUUUGAAAGGUCUUCGCCGCCGCGGUUGACAUCUUCGGAGGGAUGUAAAUUUUUCUAUGUGAGCGGUUGUGAUGGGCGUUGAAUUUUUCUUCAUCUGGGGAUCUAGAAAGAUUAUUAUUUUUAUUUUUUAUUUUGAUCCAUGGCUAAAAGUACUAAAACCCUAUAAAGAAGACUGUAGAUACCGCUUCCAGAGCCCUUGGGCAUCUGCCUGUCUGAUUAAUGGCGUGUUUGUUUGCUCGAAUGACUGAUCUCGUAAACAAUACGGGAGUAGUUGUUCAGAUACGAGAGGUCGAGGGAGAUGAUGAUGGGGAAGGCGAACCAUUUGCUACGCUGCAAAUUGGGGAUCGCACAGUGAUCAGAGGGAUGAAGUUUUUGGAUCGAAUGGCUGAUUUGGGCCCCAGAAGCAUUCAUGUCACUGCGAUACUUGCUGCUGGUUCCACCACGUUGAUCUUUCCAGCGCAGUAUUUCGCUGCCUACGGACGGGUCGUCUUUCGGCUUCACGACCAACAACUGGUGGUUGAGCCCGAAGAGAUGUCCGGAAUCCGCCGCAUGAGGUAAAUCAUCUCUCUCUGGCUCUUGCUGAUGUAUUUGCAAUAUCAAUUUUGUCAUGAGUGUGGUGAAUUGCAGGCCGGUUAGGUUCUUAGCAUGUGUUUGAGCAAAUCAUCAAAACGGCCGGCGCGGAUCAUGAGCAAUAUUCAUCGGUAUCGUUUCUUGCUCUCUCUCUCUCGAUAAUAUUUGAUGAAAAGUGAAUUAUGGUUUUGCUCGCAUGCCCACCAAGUGUUCGAUCAAAUGCCUAAAUAAAGUUGGGUUGUGUUUUCACUUAUAAAAUACCCACCAAGUGUUCGAUCAAAUGUCUAAGUAAAGUUGAGCAGUAACAGUUAAACUAUUUGUUAGAUAGAGGUCGGUCUAGUAGCCUGACGAUCCAGUUUCAUACCCACUAAUUGUUCUUGAUUUUUUAAUUGACUCAUACUAAGAUUGCCAACAACAAAAUAGUCUAACCAUAAUUGUCUACAUCGGAAGUGCCAACAAAAUCAAUUUUGUGUUUGCAUUGUGUCUCUAAAACCUUGUGUAGCCUAGUGACGCAUUUCUGCUGGUGCUCUUCAACUGAUGAAGUUUCACAUGAAUGCAUAACUUCUUUUCAAGAUACAGAUUCUUUGUUUCCAUCUGCCAAUUGAUGAAUAAAUUGACUGUGUUCACCACUAUUGUCUGCAUUGCCUUGCAUUUGAGCAGGUCCGCUAUAGAGCUGAUCGUUUGGUCAAAUUUUAGGUUCACCUUGUGUAACAUGAUUUGGGGUUCCAGUUGGACUCACUGUCCAUCUCUUGCUGACGUGCAUUUACAAAAUACUGCUACUAUCAAUUUAUAUAUGUUUCUUCAAUAUCAAAAGCUAACAAAUUUGAUAUAUGGGUGUUCAAGAAUUAUGAUAAAAAAACGUAGACAUCAAAAUAGAGGCAGGGCAGAUAAAUUUCUUUUAUGUGGGAAGGAUACAGAGUUAAUUUGGUGGUGUUUUCCCUGACCACUGUAUAGUUUGCUGAGAACUGAGUUUCCUGGAAAUGGGUUUCAUGGGAAAGUGUUUUUGUUCGUUUAAUUUGGUGAUUUUUGUUGGACAUGAUUUUCUUACAUGGUUUCUCUUCUGCUCUGGAAUUGCAGGGGGUGAUGACAUUGACUAUGCUGUUUUUCGGGGUGUAAUGUUUUAUGAAAGCACUUCGAACGAAGAUCUUCUGGUUGAAUUAAGCCGGUUUGUCACAAGGACUUCAUAUGAUUUCUGAGAAGAUCUUAUGUUGAGUUGUGUAAUUUUAAUUACUCUAAGAAGAGCAUUGGUGAAUUAAUUGUCAUUUUUAAUGACAAAAGCAAGUUAAUGAUGUCAAACCUUUUUAUGCUACUUGUUUCUGGUUGCUCAAAAUUUUCAUGCAUUGAAAUCAUGACAUUCGUUUUCAGGUCAUAUAUUAGUCCACCAUUAAUUAAUUACUUGUAGGACUCAAUAUUAACCAAAUCGGUUCAUUAUUCGUAUCCAGUUUGGCUUGAUUGAUUGAUAUACGUAGUGGAGAAAUUACAGGAGAAAAAAAGCAGCCACAACCAUUCCUCGCCGACGAAGCCCCCCACCCCCACAGCCUGCCAUGCCUGUCACCGAUCUUUCUUUUUUCAUCAUCUUUCAUAUCUCUUCACUUUACAAUUUGUCAACACACAACCUUGAACAUUUAAAGGACGCUUGAGAAUCAUCAUCUAGGAGGCCUAAUAAUUGCCAUGGUCGACCCGGUAUCUUUCUCUCUCAAUGCAGGGUUCAAUUAAAUAAUACUGAGGAUCUGGAAGGAGUUUGGUUUAUGGUCUCGAGGAAUCAAAUUGAGCAUGCUUGUUAAUCUGUAAUUGGAUUAGAAUCCGAUUAUGGGCACAUCGCUUUAUGGUGUAUUAGAGUAUCUCCAAGGGAGAUAUCAAAUACCAAACAUCAAAUUUACACAGUUUUACACUCCACUCGAUAUGUCAAAUAAAUAAUUAUUGUAACAGUCAAAUCAUUUAAGAUAAAGAAGAAAAUAAUAAUAAUAAUAAAUGAAAGUAACAAUCAGUUGUCUUUAAAAAAUAAUAAAAUAUUCAUUUAACAUCUUGCUUUUGGGAUGUCAAAAAUAACAUCUCAACUUCCAGCCUUCAUUCCACAUCAGUUUGGACACAUCGGUUGGAGUGAUGUGAGAUGUUAUUUCUAGCUGUUAAAUGUCUAUGUGGCACUUUUGACACAUCGGUUGGAGAUACUCUUAGCGUUGCAGACAAACAUUGUGUGAAGUUGCUAGACGACCUAAAUGACAGUUAAAUAUAAAAAUAUAGGUGUACAUAGGUAAAUAAUGCACCUAUCUUGUAUAAAUACUAAUACUAAUGGAUAAUAUUCGAAACUACUCUUAUCAAUAAACAAAAAUCGGGAAAAAACAAUUCAAAAAAAGAUUAGAGAGGAAGGCAGCCUUCGUGGAACAAAACGAAGCUGGAUAGCUCAAUCAGGGGUUGGGGAGGGGUAGUGCACGACGUUAUUAAAAAAAAAAAAAAGUAAAGAGUAUAGCCAUUUUGGCUAUACUAUUUAUAAUAAAAUUUUUUUUUAAAAGGAACCCAGUAUAGCCGAGCCGCUAUACUCUUGUUUAAUAAUUAAAAAAAAGCAGUAUAGCCGGACGGCUAUACUAUUUAUAUUUUAAAAGGGUAAAAAAGAAAAAAGUGGUAUAGCCGUUCGGCUAUACUGGUGUUUAUGUUAUAAAAAAAUUAUGAGUAUAGCCACUGCCUAGCCCUGUAGCGCCUAUCGAUUAGCUCCUACGUGGCAAAAAAAAGUAGCUAUACGUUUUUAAAAUAAUCAUAAAAAGCAGUAUGGCCUUCCUGCUAUACGCUUGUUUAUUUUUUUUAAAAAUCCCAUGUAUAGCCGCCCGGCUAUACUAUUUAUAUAUAAAAAAGACUGUCUAGCGCCUCCCUAUUCGUUCCCAAGUGUAAAAAGCGUAUAGCCGUGCGGCUAUACGAUUUUUUUAAUAUAUACGGUAUUUUUAAAAAAAAUCCCAGUAUAGCCGCACGGCUACACAAUUUAUACAAAAAAAGAGGACCGCCUUGCGCCAAGUGGUUCACAGCUAUGAUGAGUAUACAUACAUAUUGUUUAAUACUUGUUUUGUACAUGUACAUAUUUUUAUGUUUAAUACUCGUAUUGUAUAUGGAUGAAGGUAUUUUUCAUGUUUAAUAUAAUUAUUUUUACCAAAUUUUCAACAAUACACACAAAAGUCACGCUAUGUAUACACAAAAUUUUCACAUAUUAUUGAUUGAAAAUUAAUAUCCAUAAAAUAUAAACUAAUGCAACUAGAAGGGUCCUUUUCUUUUAAUUUUUGUUAAUAAAUAGAAUAGCCGCACAGCCGCACGGCUAUGCGCCUUGUAAUUUUAAUACACUUAAAGUGUAUAGUCGAUCGGCUAUACCCAUUAUAGCCACACGGCUAUACUCAUUAUAGCCUCUCGACUAUUGUUUUUUUUAUAAAAAAACCCCAGUAAAGCCGCGUGACAAUAGAGAGAUUGCCGGAGUGGACAUGUGGCAUAGUGUGCUUGACUUAUAUGGAGUGACAGUGUGUGUAAUUUUGUUGUUUUUUAAUUACAUUGUUGUAAAAUUAGGUACUACUUUUUUGUCUUUGGCUUUAUCCUAAUCAGGUGAAAUUGAAUUCCUAUUUUUCAAAUUAGUAAACUAUAUAGUGUGUCUUUCUCAACAAAAAAAUAAAUAAAUAAAGGCUAGAGGGCUGCCAAUGCCAUGGCAGAAGCAUCAUAGUUUCAUCGACUUGCUAUGUCGAUGGGUGUUUAUCAUGUAUUUAUAUUAGUGUUCAUAAUUUACAUAUACUCGGAGAGGUACAGCUUAAUUCAUCAACUAUAAUUUUAUGGGUCCACCACCAAAACUAUACGACAAAUAUCAAAAUGCAGUAUAAAGGGAAAGUGUACCAAUCAAAUACAGUUCCUACCAAAUUCUCAACUCUUGUACAAAUAUCACUUCCCAUCUCAAGAUCUUAAUCUCCACAUAUUUGGUAUUACGUGUUUCGUAAAGCUCAGAUAUCACUUCAAAUCAAUGCAAAAAUCUAAUCUCAACUGAACUUCCAAUUUGCUAAAUUGUACACAUGAUUAUAAUUUAAAUCUGAAGUCCACAUUCUGGUCCUUACCAAUUGUGGCUAAUAUUUCCUUGAACUCCGACUUCUAUCCUCUCAUUGCAUUUUCAGAACAAAAAUUUGAUAUACUUGCAUUUGAGCGGUACAAAACUAAGAAUUGGCAAAUAAAUUGGUAUCCAAAUUUUCUUCAUAAUUACACUUAAAAAGUUAGCUAAAAGACUAAAGGAAAAAAAAAAAAAAGUAUUCCCAAAAUGAAUUUCCAAACCCUAAAUUCAAGUAUCGAACCAAACACCACUCUAGAACUUAUCCGAACUUGUUCCAAAAUUGUUCGCAAUCCUCGAACUCUAGCCCUAAACCUAUUAUAGGGCAAUUAGGACUUGGAAUUUUGUCGGGAAAGCUAAUUAAGUAAUGUUUGUAAUUAAGAAAUACCUUAGCGUUAUUUAAUUUCUUUAAUUAGUAAUUAAAUGAGGCUAAGAUAUUAAUUAGUAUUUAAAUAUUUUAAUUAAUAUCAGAAUUUACUUAAUUAAUAGCAUUUAAUUCUUUUAAAUUCUUUUGUCGACAUGUGCCGAUGAAUUGUUGCCGGAAUAGACAUCUACCGACGAAUUUUUGCCGAGAUAGAUUUGUCCGCGUUGAAUAAAAUUUCCUAACACACUGUCCCUUCAUUUUAGAGGGAUAUAAAACCAAACUCCACAUCUUUAUGUAUAUAUAGAGAGCAAAAGGGAGAGUUUAUUUUUAAAAGGGCUUUUUUUAAUCACAAAACAUCCCUAAUGUUUGCGAAACUAUCAGAUUGCAUCCUUAAAGUUUUUUUGUAUCACUUAUAGUCCCUAACGUUAAUGUAGGUGCUCUUAAAUAGUUCAUCUGUCAAAAAAACUGUUAAAUCCAGAGAUAUAAUUGUCAAAAUCAAUCCAAAAUUAUAAUAUAUAUAUAAUUUCCUUCCCUUCUUUAUUUCUUCCACUUUUUUUUUUCAAUUAAUUUUCAUUAGAGUUUUCUGGGUCGAGAUACUUAUUUAAAUCAAGCUUAUGGAAAUUCACCAGGCUCGACGUUGUUUUUGACUGUGAUAUUGGUGAGCGGUGAGCAGUUUCGACGGCGUCGACCUUUUCCCCAACCUCCGUAGCCUUCUUUCAUAUCGAAGCGGCCGACAUGUCGUGUAGCUGCUGCCGUCUUCUUAGAACACAAGUUCUGGGAAGUUGAGGCGCGCAGAAGGGCAUCUGAGGUAGAAAACGGCGGUGUCAUAUGCUCUGGCGGUAGCAACCAGCGUCGUGUAAGAACCAAGCCAGAUUCGAGACCUUUUGUUAGGUUCUUUAAUCUCAGCCACCCACUUCCUCAUCCUUAUCCCUCUGUAUUGCUUUUCUUGAUGACGAUGAUCAUGGUUGCCUCCUACUUGUUGCUGUUGCUGCUGGUUUUGCCUCUGCUUGCGCUUCUCUAUGCUUGUUGUUAAAGACGAUGAAGAUGGAGAACAACCAUACUCUCCUUCCAUCCUGAGAAAAGUUAGAAGCUACCUAAUAUUAAUCAAAACCCUUUUAAUCUGCUGUUGUUCUUGUUGUUGUGGUUGCUUUAGAAACUAAAUAAUCCCAAAACACAAAACGAAAAAACCCAAAUGAAAAUAAUUAGAAAACACUUGCAAUUCCUGAGAGCAAAGGUUAUAUUAGGGGUGGUUAAGGUUCGGUAACUGCGAAUUUUUGCCCAAAUCGCGAACCGACCGACUAUUUGAGGUAUGAUGAUUUUAAAACCGCAAACCGACCGCUUUUUGUGGUUUACCAAUGCGGUAAACCGCAAAAAGCGAUCAGUUACUGUGAAUUAGCAGUUUAAAAUCGCUAGUUCUUUUUGUGUCAUAAAUAUCCAAUCUUCCACAUUUUAGGCCUAAUUUUGAUGCUUCUUUUGAAGCCUUUUGAUUUCAAGCAUACUUUAACCAAAAAAUAUAAAUUCACAACCUCAACUUCUCAGCAUAUAUAAAUUCACAACCUCCUCAACUUCUCAAGCAUUCACAACCUAAAGAAAAUUAAAGUUACAAUUCUAAGCAUUCCAAUUAAAGUUAUACUUCUCAAACAUUCACAACCUCAACUUCUCAAGCAUUCCAAUUCCAAAUCCUUUAAAGUUACAAACAAAAAGGAAAAUGCAAUGCAAAAUGAAUUAAAGUUACAACCCAAAGGAAAAAUCAAAUUCAAAGUUAAUUAAAGUUACAAACUAAAAGGAAAAUACAAUGCACCAAUGUUACAAAUUAAAGUUACAAACUCAAGUGUUGGUGGUGGUGAGUGGAUUUGAAGGACCCUGUUGUGUUGUUUGAGCACAAAUUGCUAUUUACAAAAUGCAAAUUUUUUUUUUUUUAAAAAAUAUAGUUGCGGUUUGAGGUAACCGCAAGUUUUGAAAAUCAAAUACCACAAUCGCAACCGCAAAUGCGGUUCGGUUCUUCAUACUGCAAAUACGGUUCGGUUUCCCGUGAUUACGGUUCCAUUGCGGUAAAUUAUCGGUUGAUUUUUACGAUUUUUGUGGUUUUUGGGUCUAAAAUGCCACCCCUAGGUUAUAUUAUAUUCACAGGGAGAGAAAGAAGAAGAAGCAAUAAAGAGUGAAGGGAAGGAAAUAAAAGAUAUAUAUUUUAUAAUUUUGAAUUGAUUUGACAGUUAUAUCUCUGGAUUUAAUAAUUUUUUUUAAUAAAAGAACUAUUUAAGAGCACUUAUAUUGACAUUAGGGACCAUUAGUGAUACAAUCUGAUAAUUUCUCAAAUGUCAUAGACUUUUUGGGAUAAAAAGGCUUUUCAAAGAGAGCUGUUAAUCGUCCUGCACUCCGAGAUUUACCCUUUUAUGUUUCACUUUCACCUAACGGUAACAUAAUAUGCAAGACGACGCCGUCUGACAGUUGCACUGGCGGUUUGUCAUCCUCGUUGCAUUUUCUUCACGGUUCUUCUUCAGUUCCAGUGACGUGCUUUGAAACACAUUACCUCGACGUCGCUUUUCCGUCAUUCCUCGGAUCUACUUUCCCAAGAACCAAACAACCAUAUACAGAUUUAGCGUCUUCCACACGCGCAAUCCCUGACCGAAAACUCCCUCUCAACUCUCAAUACAAAAAUUUUCUCUUUCACGUCCACAGUCGACUUCAUCCAAUCCACAAAAACCACAAUUUUCGACCACUUUCCGGGAACCAAACACUCCGACAAGCCACAACCACACCGAAUCCCAAAUCACCCUCAUGAACUGAAAUCCAAAACCCUAGGGCUCGGUUCUCGGCUCGGCGUUGCAAUGGACAAGGAAACCGAAAUCCUCUCGCGCUUAGCCGCGAACCAUCUCUAUCUCGCCCAAUUUGAGCCUCUUCGAGCGAUUGUCGUUGCUCUCCGAGCUCGAAACCCCGACCUCGCUCUUGCCGUGCUCCAAACCAUCGUCGCUCACUCGGGUCGCUUCGAGAACAUUCUCUGGUCAAAAUCAUGCCCAUCACCAGCUCUGCUCACUUACUUAUCGACCCUUGAACUGUUGCAAUUCGAUAACGCUUCGUCGGUAUGGAGCUUCGAUCCCGAAACCCUGCGAUUGCGCGCCGAGUUCUUGUUGUUAGUUCAGAAUUUGAUCGACCGCGUCUCGGAGAGUAUGCGGAAGAAUUUUGAUUUGGAGAGCAUAGAGAAAGAGAAGGAGAAAGAAGGAUUAGGCGAGAGCGAGAGUUUCGAAGAGCGAGCAGAGUUUUUGGGUAAGAGUGAGGAUACUGGCAAGGAUUUGAGAGAUGCCAGUGGUGAAUUGGAUAGCUGUGUGAGAAUUUUGGAUAGGGUUUUGGAAUUGGGCGUAAAUAGAUUGAAGCCAGACUCCGUAGUAGUAGGUGCUGCUGAUACUGAUGGUGGGAGUGAAAAUGAGGCUGCAGGCGUUGUAUCUAUUGAGGAAGGCGAAUUGAUGUGUUUGAGGAGCGUAGUUUGGGACAACCGUGAUGUUUUUGACGCGUUGUGUUGGAAUAUACAGAGCCAAGUGAGGGGAUGGGAGGGAUAUGAUUCUUCGGGUUUAGCAAUAACGUUGAGGAGGGAUGAAAAUGCAGGGGAAAUGUCCAAGGAGGAUUUGAAGGUUCUUGGUUUGAUACAAAGGAGUGUUCAGUUAGCUCACUUGGAUGCUAUGAAAGAGUGCAUGAAGGAUGGUGAUGUGGAUGGAGUGGUUUCGCGUAUUCAUUUUCUUCACCUUGAUUAUGGAGUGGAGGAGACUGAGUAUCGGUAUGUUUAUAAAAUUUGAACGGAUUAUUAUUUGUACAAUAUGUGUAGUGUUUUUAUAGAUUAUGGUUUGUACUUAUCUCAGUGCCACUUACGCUCUAUCUUGCACAAUUGUUUCAUUAACUAGUUAGAAUUUAAACCUGCGCUAAACCUUUUCAAAGAAGAAACCAUUGAUACCAAGAUUAAAGGUUUGUGGUUCUGUUCAAUAGUCUUCUACAGUUGGUAGGCAAAUAUGAAGAUUGACACAUAUUUUAUGUUUUUAGCUUCUGGGCCUAGUUGUUUGGUUUGUCAUAAAUGUGAUAGAUAGGUAUGAGGAGGAUUGGUCAGUUUAAGAAAGCUUUUAUACAUGUUACUUUGAAGAUGCUUCAUGAAUUGUGGGCCAUCUUAGGAGUGGUGUCUGUGGUGUUCAGAUGUGAGAUUAGAUUUAUGUGUUACUGCAUCUUGGAUGAAUUUUGAGAAUGGCAAUAUCAGAAAAGGAAGUAGUUAUUAUUAGGGUAUCUUCUCCUUGAAAUACCAAAAGUGGCCUUAGGAUGUACUGCUUACUUUCUUCUAGAAUUUUUUUUCCAUUCACUCUUGAUGUUCCUUGCAGCAUGGUUUUGCAAGAUCUCCUCAAGAUGGUGUCAUCAGGAAAGGAGGGAUAUGGAGAUUCUUGGCGUAACAUGCGAGAAAAAUUACUGUGGAUUUAUAGCACGGCUAUUGCAUCAAAUUGUGGACAUCUUGUCAAAAUGAUACAAGUAAUGUUUGCCAUUUUGCUUAUAAUGGAUUUUGCAUGGUACAAGUCUUUGUCAGCAAAUUGUUUAAAAUAUGCCAGUAGUCUUGCAAUUAAUUUUCUGUGAGAUGAUUUUGCUGAAGGAUCCUGGUUAGGUCCUUACACGAUGCAUACCAUAACUUGUUAAAGCUAAGCUGAGGAUGUUUGGAAAGCUACAAUACCUAGUUGGAAAGGAUAGUUAUCUCCUUUUCUUUUUUUCUUUUUUAAAUUUAUUUUUGUGUGCAUGGUCGAAGUUGGAAUGCUUUCCCUUGUUGAAGUUUUGCAGCAAACACAUCUCAAAACCACAUAAAUUCAUGGAUAUGUAUGUAGAAAACUGGUUAAGCCUGAACUAGGUAGAUUAGUUCAGCCAGUUUCAUAAGUUCUGUAGAUUGUUCGAAUCUAUUAGGUGGUUAUUCUGAUGUAAGAAGCUAAUGGUUAUAAUAAAUGGCAGUUUUUCUUCUUCUUCUUUUUAAUACAUAUCAUGGUCGCCGGGAUUUUUUUAUAUAAUAUAAAUUAUUUAACCUGUGUUGAGAUGUAUUUGAACAUUAACAAUCAGUCAUCUUGUAUUUUUUAUCAUUCAUUGGGUCCCAUUCAAUAUGUAUUUGUAUUACUUUUGAGCCAUGCAUUCUUGGAGGGUAAUAUUGACUUGGCAGGUGGCUUCCUGCAGGCUCUUCAAGAUGACUUACUCUCAAAAGAGAUUGAGGUGUACAGAUCUCUUGAUAACAACCAGAUUCCACCACCUCUGGAACGUCUUCAAAGAUAUCAUGUAGAAUUGAAUCCCGAUACAGAAACUUCUACCCUCAACACUGUAGUUGGAUUUUGCAUGAGAGACAUGUAUCAUUAUGCUCGUGUUUCGGGUUUACAUGUCCUUGAAUGUGUCAUGGACACUGCUUUGUCUGCUGUAAAGAGAGAGCAGCUUCAAGAAGCUAGCAAUGUAUGUGCCCAGUUUUAUGUUUAAAUUGAAUAUGUGAGUAAAAUGGUAUUCUAAUUAUUAUUUGGGAUCAGUUAUUGCAUUAUUUGAUGGUGGAUUGCUAGUAUAGUUACAAGCCUUUCUUGUCCAUAUAUGUGCAGAUUCUUUUAUUGUUUCCCCGCCUUCAGCCCCUGGUAGCCACCAUGGGUUGGGAUUUAUUAUCUGGAAAAACUACAGCACGAAGGAAAUUAAUGCAACUGCUGUGGAGAAGUAAAUCACAAGUUUUUCGGCUGGAAGAAUCUUCUCUUUAUAGUAAUCUAUCUGAUGAGGUACUGCCCUUAAAGUCUUCCUUGUGAUAUUCGUGGCAUGAUAUCAUUGUUAUUAUUCAAAGGAAAUAUGUGACUGUAUGUGUUAUUCAUUGGCAGGUAUCGUGUGUGGAGUAUCUUUGUGAUUCUUUAUGUUAUCAGCUUGAUCUUGCCUCUUUUGUUGCCUGCGUCAAUUCUGGUCAAUCAUGGAAUUCAAAAUUAUCAUUGAUGUUGUCUGCUAAAGAACAAAUAGCAUUCAGUAGUGAAGAUCAGCAGUUAGACCCUUUUGUUGAGAAUUUCGUACUGGAAAGGCUUUCGGUUCAAAGUCCACUUCGGGUAAGUCCUCAAAAAUAAUCUUAUUGUGGCCUAGUUCUUUGUUCUUUUUAGAAGGAAAACUAUAUCUUAUUAAAAACUGAGAAAGAAAAACUACAAGAAAGAUGGGCUAGAUCCCAUCAAAAUCAGACCAACAAUCAUGGCAUGACAUAUAAAAUCAGUUUACAUUCAACCCAAAACUCUGUCCGAUCGACAUGAGUGAGUCUUUGAAAUGCUUCAACAAAUACACUCCAAGAAAAGCUAAAAUUGUAAUUCUAUUAUAUCCCAAUGUAAAUCCACUUCCUCCACCAUAUCAUGAAAAACGUAUUAUUUCUUUCAAAUUAAACAAUCCACAUAGAAGCCAAUACCAUGUGAUGAUUUAUGUAAAUGUCUAUGCUAGCAUCUUUUUUAAAUUAUUUUUUGAUUUUUAUGUGCAUUUGCAUUACAAUUAUGUUAUACAUUAAUAUAAUAAUACUAUUAUAUUGUGUUGUAACUCGUAAGUUUGUAGCAAUCUUUCUCUGCAUAAAAAUUGUCUUUUGAUCUCUGAACAUGUUCAAUUCCCGUUGCAGUUUUCACCUUACCUUCAUAUGUUAAGGGGUUUGCUGGGUAUUUUCUUUUUCUAUGCCAGUUAGUAAUGAAUCAUUGCCUUCACAUGAAAAAUGCAAAAACAUUGACUCAGUGCUUGUUAAAGAGAAAUUCAACUUUCAAAAAUAACCCAUGGUUCCUUGAUGAUGGUGUUGACAUUAUAAAAUGAAACUCCAAAUAUUGUCUGUAUCUGAACUCUGAAGAAUUAUUGGCAUGUCAGGCACAAUAAGGUUGCAUUCUAAACAAAUUAUUUUUACUAAAAAGGAAAAAUAAUUUAUCACAAAUUCUUAUUGUGGACAUGCCUAAUGAUUGCUAUUUCAGAAAGCUUCACUGAACAAUCAUUUACCACUUUCCCCCGAAUUAUAUUUCUUUAGAAAUGCUAAAGAUAUAGUUAGCAUUGUAGUGUACCCUUUUUUCUUUUUAUUUUUAACACUUUUGUAUUGAAUGUUGGAAUGUGACGGGUGCAUUUUCUGUAGGUAUUGUUUGAUGUUGUUCCAGGCAUAAAGUUUCAGGAGGCUAUUGAAUUGAUCAGCAUGCAGCCAAUUUCUUCAACUUUAGAAGCCUGGAAGAGGUGUGUAUUCUUGUAUCAUAGCUAAGUGGGUACUAGAACUAGUGUUACUUUGUUGUGCACGAUUUAUUUUGUCAUCAUGUAUUACUCAAGGAUGAAAAGAAAUCAUCUUGUGUGGGAAGUGAGCUGGGGUUGACAAUGCUGCCAUCCUUUUAUGCUACUUUAUUUAUUUACUCAUAUAUUUGGAUAUCUAAAAUUAGUUGGUUUUCCUUUUUUCUUCUUCUUUGUGGUGAUAAUAGAGAUAUCUGUAUAUGAAGCUGGGGCUGGGGAUGUGGGACCAAUUGUGCACUCUAUGUAUUUCAUAUUUUUGUCAUUUUGGGAUUUGACAUGCUUUUCUUAACAUGUUGAUGUUUUCGCGUUUCUCUAUUCUAUUUUAUUAUAUGGUAGGAUGCAGGAUAUUGAACUUAUGCACAUGCGGUAUGCUCUAGAUUCAGCUGUUCUUGCGGUUGGAGUGAUGGAAAGGACUAUGACUGGUGAAAGAGAAAGUCUUCAUCAAGUUGCAUUUGACCAUUUGAAAGAUCUGCAGAACCAUUUGGAGGCUGUCAAUGACAUCCCUCGCAAGGUAGUCUAUUGUGAAUAUGUUUUUUUUAGCCCAACAUUUUCAAUCCUAACUCCUUUUUGUGGUUGUUAAAACUGUUAUUUUCUCAUGUUUAUGCUUGAUAAGUACAACUUGCAAUUACAUGUCUAACAUGUUUCCUCGGGCAAAUCUGUUGCAUUUUGUCUUUGAAAGUUGUUUUGUGUAAAAUAUAAUCGCCGAAAAAUGCAUGAAAAAGAAAUUAUUUAUCAUUCAUGUUCUGAUGCUAGAGAAUUAGCAACUGCUAAAGGGAUUGCAUUUUGGUAUUUUGUUCAAGUUUAUUUUGAAGUUUCAUGUUUUCCUUUGAAAUCUAAAUGCUCUCAAUUUGUUCGUGAUGUCAUCAGUUUUAUUAGUUUGCUGCAUCUUUUUCCUGUUGUUCAUUGUAAUUAUUUUAUAAUGCCUCUGUAAUGAUGCAGAUCAUGAUGGCGAAUGUCAUAAUUUCGCUUUUACAUAUGGAUGAUCUUUCUCUCAAUUUGGCUCAUUGUGCCUCACCAGGGAGCUAUUCUGAAUCACAUUACACAUGUUCUUCAGAACAAACUGAUCUAACACGUGAAGAGGGAAACAAAUUGGUUGUAUCUUUCACGGGGAAACUACUUGAUAUAUUACAUCACUGUCUUCCUUCAACUAUAACUGAACUAGAUCAUGCUCUAAGUGAUGGCGUAAGUAGGGGUGGAAGACAAGCAUUGGAGUGGAGAGCAUCAAUUGCUAAACAUUUCAUUGAAGAGUGGGAAUGGCGGUUGUCAAUUUUGCAGCGUCUUCUUCCUUUAUCUGAACGCCAGUGGCGGUGGAAGGAGGCAUUAACUGUAUUACGUGCCGCACCAUCUAAACUACUUAACCUGUGAGUUCUACAAGCCUUUUCUUCUUUGGGAAUUUAUAUGAUGAUCAAUUGGUUCUUGUGCAUGAAUUACUUUUCGGAUAUUGGUUAUAGGGUUUGCAAAUGGGGGUUUAUCCUAUAAGAAAAUGGUAGUUUAUAACGAUUAUAAACUAUAUUGACCACCCAGGCCAAACAAAAUGUGAUGACCUCAUUUGCCAAAUGAUAGAAAUAGAUGCUGAUAUUUGAAGAUGAUAGUACAUCAUCAGUUAAUAUGAAGUUGAUGACAUCUUAUUUUCUGAAGGUAAAUAUUAUAGUUGUUCUUAUAUAUCUCAGUUGCAUGCAAAGAGCAAAGUAUGACAUUGGGGAAGAAGCAGUGCAUCGGUUUUCAUUGUCUGCAGAAGAUAAAGCUACCCUCGAAUUAGCUGAGUGGGUGGAUAGUGCCGUCAGAAGACAAUCUGUAUGAUUCAGAUCAAAUUCCUUGAACUGCUUAUUUUAUGCUUGUCAGCUUUAACUAUCUAUAACCGUCUUGCUUAAAUAAUAUUGCUGAAUCUUUGUUGUCUUUGGUUCCAAAUUUACUUUACUUUCCUUUCUAUGUGGACUUUUUUUGUGGUUUUGUUUUGUAUUGCGGUGCCUUCAUCAGUAUUCUCUCAUAAAAUGGCCUCACUUUUCUGGCUUUUCUAGGUAGAAGAUGUAGUCUCUCGUGCUACUGAUGGUGGGACUUCUACAAUACAUGAUCUGGAUUUUUCUUCAUUGCGCUCCCAGUUAGGUCCUUUGGCUGCAGUAAGUGCUUAGAGUGUUAAGUCUCUAUUCCCCUUUGUCUUCAAGUGAGGUUGAAUAUUUAAUCAAUUCUCUAAGGUUUAGGCUGAUAUUCUCAAUAUAACCUUCCAGAUUCUUCUUUGUAUUGACGUUGCUGCUACUUCUGCUCGGUCUGCAAAGAUAUCCCAGCAGCUUUUGGAUCAGGCAAUGCUCAAAUAAACUCGGAAGAUGAAGAUACUGAUAUUUUGUCUUCAUAUAUACUUGUCUUAGAUUAUUUUGUUUUCAAAUUUUCUAAUUUCCAGAAGAUAAGUGGUGUUAAAAAAUCCAAUUAAAAUUUUUAAUGUUUUCUUGAUGAUAUAGAAAUUGCCCAAGCCACCUCUAAGUGGUCAGUAAAUACUUUUACCAAACCAACAUUUAUGAGAAAUCGAUGUGAGGAGGAUAAUCUGAAAGUUUCACUGUCAGUUACUAUUUUACUUUUCCACCCCUAAGCAGUCAGUAAAUACUUUUACCAAACCAACAUUUUUGUUAUUAUCGUCCUCCUAAACAAAUGUCAUUUCAUGGUCUUUUUCCCUGUUCGAAGUAUUAGUUGUAAAACUUGAUGCCAUGUGUGAGAAAUAUUAUGAGUUUGGAAGAAAGUAAAUUUUGCCUCAAUUGCUACUUUGGCUUUCCACUGGUACUGAUUAUUCACUCCUGGAGAAAACUCUCUCCAUGUGUCACAACAUCUAGAAAUUUCAUGUUCCCCCUAAUUUGAAAUUCUCUUAGGCUCCAUUUAGAUGAAGGUAAUUGAAAGAUAGGAUUUGGAUUUAACAAGGCUAUGUUCAAAAAAACUAGAAAACAUCAUGUUGGAUGUAUUUAGAAUAACUAGAUGUAGUAUAUUUGAAAUGACUUUAUGGAAGGAGCCAUCUGGAAUCCAUUUGUUUUCCUCAUUUCCUUCUAAUUAAUAUUUUGGCAUACAUGGAUUGUAGUAGUCUAAAAAAACAAUUUAACCUUAUAAUGUCAUCUAAAUCCCUAGAUUUGAAAUUACUCCAUUCAAAUGGACCCUUAUUUUCCUCCAUAUGGUUUCCAGUAGAUCGGUUUUUGUGUUAGGGUGUUUAAUUCAAGAGUCAUAUGGUCUCCAGUGGUUUGGUUUUACGGAAAGCUAUGAUUUGUUAUAUGUGCAGGCUCAAGUUCUGCUGUCUGAGAUAUAUCCAGGAGUUUCUCCAAAGAUAGGCUCCACUUACUGGGAUCAGAUCCUUGAAGUGGCAGUUAUUUCUGUUUUAAAACGAAUCCUUAAGCGUUUACAUGAGUUCUUGGAUCAGGUGAGAUCUUGAAUUUUUUUUUGGGGGAUAAAGAGUUCUUAUUGGCCAUUAAAGACUGCACUAUCUAAUUAUGAAGGUUGUUUAAUCAGGAUUUAAACACAAUAAUUCGUUGCCAUCCUAUGGUUCUUCCAUUUUUGUUUACUUCUUGGUGUUUACUAUCUGUCCCUAAUAGCUUCACUGUUUAGAAUGCUUACUGCAUUAAAACAUUCUUGGUGUUUACUUCUUACUGUUAGUUAUUGAUCCUGGCUUCUUGAUCUGCUCAUCUAGGAUAAUCCUCCAGCCCUUCAGGUCACUUUGUCUGGCGAGAUUAUUAUUGCCUCACCAAAGGAAUCCCUCCGACUAGGACAACGGGAACGUGUUCUUGAUAUGCUACAUCAUAUGAUUGAGGAUGCUCACAAGGGCAAGCGGCAGUUUCUCAGUGGUACAUUUUAUAGUUCCCCUUUUUCGUAGUGUGGAAGGAAGGGGAAAUAUGCUCUAUGGCUGCUCUGCUUCAUAUGGCUUAAACAGAAAUCUGCUCUAUGGCUGCUCUGCUUCAUAUGGCUUAAACAUAAAUAUGCUCUAUGGCUGCUCUGCUUCAUAUGGCUUAAACAUGUCUUUAAUUUCACACAGGUAAGCUCCAUAAUCUUGCAAGAGCUGUGGCUGAUGAAGAAACAGAGCUAAAUUUCUAUAAAGGAGAAGGCCCAUCUGCUGAACAGAAGGUUCUUUCUGAUCUUGACAAGGAUGGAGUUUUUGGACUUGGGCUAAGAGUUGCCAAGCAGAUACCUUCAAGUUCUGCAAUUGGAGAAACAAGUGUGCAGCCUGUUGGUUAUGAUGUAAAGGACAGUGGGAAGAGAUUUUUUGGUUCAUUAAGUACCAAACCCAUGACAUAUCUUUCACAGUUUAUUCUCCAUAUUGCUGCAAUUGGUGACAUAGUUGAUGGAACUGAUACAACUCAUGAUUUCAACUUUUUUUCACUCGUGUAUGAGUGGCCCAAAGAUGUAAGAUUAUUUUCUGUGUUAUUGAAGAAUUCUUUGCUUUCUGCGUUUUGUUUUCAAUAAAAUUUUGGAAUUGAGAUUUGGUUCAAACAAUCGGAUAUUUUUGGAAGCAUCUUAAUUUCAGGAACUGCGUAGAUACUUAGGUUUAAUUUCAAAAGAGAACCUCAAACUAUACAAUUACAACUAUUGUAGAUGCGACAUGAAGUACUAUGUUAUAUUGACUUUUAGGCCCAACUAUAAUGGAAGUAAAUGUGGAACUGAUGAGUAGUUGUGCUAGUUUUUGUAUGUAGCAUUUCAUGUUGUUUACCAGGAAUGUCCCACUUGCUGAAACAGUAAACGUAUACUGGAUGAAGACAAAAAGUUUUAACUUUAUCCCAAGCUGCAGUUUGGUUGUCAAAAGUAUCUUUUUCUUGAAUACGAUUGUUUUUUCUUAUACAAAAAAAGAAGAAGAGAAUGUAUAAUUAAUGAAAAUGAGGAAAAAGAAAUGCAAUGCAAACUAUAUUUUCCAUGUUACUCAUAUUUGUACAAGUUGAAAACUAUGGUUUUUCUGUUAGAACCUAUUCAAAUAUAAUACUCGUCUCAUGAAAAACUGAUUAGAUAGAUAUGUGUAAUAAUUUUAAUUUUCAGAAAUACAUGGUUUUUAUGGAUCGUUAAUGUAAUGGUAGCAAUGAUAUAUAAAGGGUUAUUACUAGCUCUGUUUGAUGCAGGACUUGCCAGUCUGUUUUUAUUGUUUAAUUUGAUACCAAUGAAAUCUGAUUGUUGAAGGUCUCUUAGUUCUUAAUUAUGUGUCAUGAUCUAUUUGACUUGGACUAACUUGAAAGCUGACAAGUUCUUUAUGUUAGGAGUUGGCAAAUUUCUGUUUCUGCUGUAUUAUUGAUAUGCUCGUGUAUGGCUACUGUAUUUUGCAGCUUUUAACCCGUCUUGUCUUUGAUCGAGGCAGCACUGAUGCAGCUGGUAAGGUAGCUGAGAUUAUGUGUGCAGAUUUUGUCCAUGAAGUAAUUUCAGCAUGUGUACCUCCAGUUUAUCCCCCACGAUCUGGUCAUGGGUGGGCUUGCAUUCCGGUCACUCCCACCUUCCCUAAAAGUGGCUCAGAAAAUAAAGUAUUGUCCCCCUCUUUCAAAGAAGCGAAGCCUAAUAGUUACUGCCGUUCCUCAUCAUUGCCUGGAAUCCCUCUAUACCCUUUAGAGUUAGAUAUAGUAAAACAUUUGGUUAAACUAUCCCCAGUGAGGGCGGUCUUAGCAUGUGUUUUUGGGAGUACCAUUUUGUACAAUGGCAGUGAUUCUUCUAUAUCGAGCUCCUUGGACGGAGGAUUGCUGCAGGCACCUGAUGUUGACCGGUUGUUUUAUGAGUUUGCUCUUGAUCAAUCUGAGAGGUUACUUUCAUGCCUGUAAAUUAUUUUCCUUUGUCAUUUACAUUAUGGUUUCCUAGUUUUUACUUGUUAUUUUGACGUGCAGGUUCCCAACUUUAAACCGAUGGAUACAAAUGCAAACUAACCUUCAUCGAGUUUCGGAGUUUGCUGUAACCAUUAAGCAAACUGCCGAUGGUGGUGAGGCUAGAGCUGAAGCAAGAGCUAUCAAGAGACUACGUGAGAUUGAUAGUGAUACUGAGUCAGAAGUUGAUGACAUUGUUGGUAGCAGUAGUGUUUCAACAGCUUUACCAGACGCCAGUGGCCAAGAUGGUGCAGCUACUGAACCUUGGGAUGGUUCUUCAAAAUCUGACGUUGCUGAGCUUGACACUUCAGUUUUCCUUUCUUUUGAUUGGGAAAAUGAAGAACCAUAUGAGAAAGCUGUACAGCGGUAUUGUAGUUCUGUCUUGUUUCAACAUUCAUUCAAAUAAACAGUUACUCGUUCACUUCUUUUUCCUUUUUGGGUCUCAAUACUUGUUCACUUCUUCAGCUGAUUUUAUUGUUAUCUUCUGCUGGUGUUCUCUAUAAAUGUUUGCUAACAUUCUGGCAUGUUUACUUUGAAUUCUAAGGUGGGACUCACAUUGCUAAGUCAAUUUUUCGAAUUGUAUGACCUACUAAGAUACAUACUCAGAAAUCUUCCACUAGACAGAAAGCAUGAUCGUAUGACUGGUUCUAGUGCUGAAAAAGCAGAGUGAAAGAAGACUUUUCAGACAUAAGGAAUUUUAUGAGAAAUAUAUGCAUGCAUAUGUUGGAUUAGCGUCUUUAGUUUCUAUGGAGUUUCAUGUAUAAAUUAUCUGGUUUUGGAGAGCAUAUUUAUCGGGAAUUGCCUUUAUUUUUUGGAGGGAGGGUGUGUUAUUGGUGUCAAUUCUGUUCUUCUUUUGUUUGCUUUUAGGAUAAUUUUGUCAUCAUGCUGACAAUUGAAGGUGGCAUUACUCUUUCCAGUCACUGAUUGCUGUCAAUUAACAGAUUGAUAGAUGAAGGAAAACUCAUGGAUGCUCUUGCACUUUCUGAUCGCUUUCUACGUAAUGGAGCUUCAGAUCAAUUACUUCAGCUAAUCAUUGAAUGUGGGGAAGAAAAUCAUUCAGUCGCUGGACUCUCUCAGGGUUAUGGAGGCAAUAGUAUCUGGAGCAAUAAUUGGCAGUAUUGCCUGCGGUUGAAAGAUAAACAAGUGGCUGCUAGACUUGCUCUCAAGUAUGUAAUGUCAUGGGUUUAUAAGUUCCCUUGGUGAAUGCUAGCUGAUAAGAAAUAUAUUAAGAUAUUUUCCUUUGGCAUCUAUCAUCUUUAUUUUUUACAUUUGUGGAGCAGUGCUUGGUUCUAGUAAUAAAAAUGUUCCUAUUUGAUAUUUCAGAUUUAUAUACAUGGCCUUUUAUUAAUUUUUAAGUGAUGCAGGAAGUUUAUGAAUCUAUUGCGGUCUUUAAUGAAAAUGUCUUGUUCCUGUUAGUUGGAAAGAGUCAAUUCCCCACUCGUUCCCUCUGAGUCUCUUUUUUUGGUUCGGCUUGGUUCCUAGCAUUACAUGUUGUAAAUCAGCUAAACACUUUUCCCAUUGUUGCACUGAUGGUAUGUAGGAACAAUUACGUGCUUCUUUCCAUAGAAUUUCUAGAAUCUUACAAGUUUUAUUCCAGGUAUAUGCAUAGAUGGGAGUUGGAUGCUGCUUUGGAUGUUCUCACAAUGUGCAGCUGCCACCUACCUCAAAAUGAUCCCAUUAGGAAGGAGGUACUGCUUUUUGAUUUGAUAAGUUGCUUAUAUUCUAUUACUGCUAAAUCUCUGUCUCAAUUACCUGAAGCUUGAUAAGGGUUCUCUAUUUUGCAUUAAUUUUUCAUCUAUUUUUGGUUGAUGAUGUACUCCUUUUGGAUGCAUAGGUCAUGCAUAUGAGACAAGCUUUGCAGAGGUACAGCCACAUUCUAAAUGCAGAUGAGCACUUUAGCAGCUGGCAAGAGGUUAAAAUUCUGGACUCUGUGGACUAAAAUGAGAAGUGAAAAUGAUAGAGAUAUUAAGAGCAUAGUUCUGCUAGUUUUUAUUUAUUUAUUUCAUGGUAGCAUGGAUAUCGUAUUAAUUUGGGUUUUAUUCUCUCUUUUUGUUUUUCUUUGUCCAAUGUCAGGUUGAAGCAGAGUGUAAGGAAGAUCCUGAGGGGUUAGCACUUAGAUUAGCUGGAAAAGGAGCUGUUUCUGCUGCUUUAGAAGUGGCUGAAAGUGCAGGAUUAUCCAUAGAAUUGAGGAGGGAACUGCAGGGCCGGCAACUUGUAAAACUUUUGACUGCAGAUCCUCUCAGUGGUGGAGGUCCAGCAGAAGCUUCACGAUUUCUUUCUUCCCUACGUGACUCAGAUGAUGCUCUACCAGUUGCCAUGGGUGCAAUGCAGCUUUUACCUGAUUUGCGGUCAAAGCAGCUGCUUGUAAUUAGUUUUCUUUUUGGCAAUAUUCUGCUGGAAAUUUAUUUUGAUCUCAUAAAGUAUAGUAUUUGAGUUUUGAAUUUCAUAUACCUCUUAGUUGUGAUUUUUAUUUUUAUUUUUUACUUUUGUAAAGGUUCAUUUCUUCCUGAAGCGAAGAGAAGGGAAUCUUUCAGAUGUUGAGGUUUCUCGGCUUAACUCAUGGGCCUUAGGUCUUCGUGUUCUGGCUGCCUUGCCGUUGCCAUGGCAGCAAAGAUGUUCUUCCUUGCACGAGCACCCGCAUUUGAUACUUGAGGUUCUUCUGAUGAGGAAACAGCUACAGUCUGCUGCAUUGGUUAGAUAUCACUUCUUAAGUUCCUUCAGUCACACACGAAUGUCUAGCAUAUUUUGUAUUUAGAAAGAUUUGAAUACCAUAAGAUCAUUUGUCACUACUUACUGCAUGAAAGGCAUAAAAUUUGGAUUGCGAUUCCUUAUCCGGUUUGGUGUUUUGCAUGUUUUUCUGUGUUUGUAGUUCUCUGAUGCUGUUACUUAAUCAACAUUUUUUUGCUUAACAGAUUCUCAAAGAAUUUCCUUUGUUGAGAGACAAUAAUGUCAUUAUUGCCUACGCUGCUAAAGCUAUUGCUAUCAGUAUUAGCUCACCUCCAAGAGAAUAUCGAGUAUCUGUUUCGGGGACUAGAUUAAAGCAGAAAACAAGAACAGGUGCUCCUGUGAGGUCUUCUUUCACUAGCAGUCUAAAUAACUUGCAAAAAGAGGCUCGUCGAGCUUUCUCUUGGGCUCCACGAAAUACUGGAGACAGGGCCGCCCCAAAAGAUGUUUACCGUAAAAGAAAGAGUUCUGGAUUGACAUCAUCGGAAAAAGUAGCUUGGGAGGCCAUGGCUGGUAUCCAGGAGGAUCGUGCUUCAUCAUAUUCUGUUGAUGGGCAAGAACGGCUUCCUGCUAUUUCAAUUUCUGAAGAAUGGAUGCUAACUGGUGAUUCAACGAAGGAUGAAGCUGUUCGUGCAUCUCACCGAUAUGAAAGUGCCCCUGACAUUACCCUUUUCAAGGUAUUCUAGUGAAAUAGGCUAUACCUUUUGCAUUUUAAUUUGCAAAGCACCCCUAGAUACAUAAUAAAGACAGUAAAGCUAAAUAUGUUCCUUGCUGUCCAUAAAGCUAAUAAUGUUUCAUACUGCCAUUUGCUCCAUUUCAUAUGUAGAUAUUAUGGGAGAAUCCAUGGGUUAAUCUUACAUCGGUAUUCUAACUUCUGAGGAUUGCCAAUUUCAUAAGGGCACGCAAGCUUAAUUAUACACUUUCCCUGUAUGAAGUUUUCCUCUGAUUUGUAACAUUUUAUGCUUGUAUAUCCAGUUAAAGUAGUGGGUUCUUCAGCAUGCUGGGAUCUUGUUUAGGCAUGCUGCUCGGCUGACAGUUUGGUAUUUAUUUUUGUAGGCACUGCUUUCUCUAUGUUCUGAUGACUCUGUCUCUGCAAAGAGUGCAUUGGAUUUGUGUGUUAAUCAGAUGAAGAAUGUGCUGAGCUCCCAACAAUUGCCAGAGAAUGCAUCUAUGGAAAUAAUUGGUCGAGCAUAUCAUGCCACUGAGACGUUUGUACAGGUAUACCUUCAGUAAGCUCUUACAACAUGGUUAAAAUUCCAUAACCAACAAAGGCAGAUCAUGUAUCUUUGCCUUGUAAAGACAGGGUUAUGGUUUUGUUAUGCAAUCACCUUUAUGUGCAGUUUAGUUGGUAAUGCAGAUUGCAAUGCUAGUUCUCACCGCAUGCUUUUACAGGGGCUACUUUAUGCUAAAUCCCUGCUGAGAAAGCUUGUGGGUGGUAGUGAUUUGUCGAGUAAUUCUGAAAGAAGUAGGGACGCUGAUGAUGCAUCCUCUGAUGCUGGUAGCUCCAGUGUGGGCAGUCAGUCCACAGAUGAGCUAUCUGAAGUUCUCUUGCAGGCAGACAUUUGGCUAGGACGUGCUGAGCUGCUCCAGAGCCUUCUGGGAUCCGGAAUUGCUGCUUCUCUAGAUGAUAUUGCCGAUAAAGAGUCAUCUGCCUGUCUCCGUGAUAGGUUGAUUGUAGAUGAACGAUACAGCAUGGCUGUAUAUACAUGCAAAAAGUGCAAGGUAAGUAUCGUAGCUGGAAGUUGCUGUUAAUUCUUCUGUUUUGUUUAGAGUAUGUUUUUCCUUUGGCGUGAUUAUUUAAGGCAUGUUGAGCUUAUGAAUAUGUGGGGCUUCUGUCAGAUUGAUGUUGUCCCUGUUUGGAAUGCAUGGGGACAUGCUUUGAUUCGGAUGGAGCACUAUGCACAAGCUCGUGUGAAGUUCAAGUAUGUUUAGUUCAUAUUUGGCAUAAAAAGGCUAAGGAUUUUUAUUUUUUUGAAUUUGGCAUAAAAAUGCUAUGGCUUUAUUGAUCGAUAGAAAUGAACUAUGUUUCCCCUUCUCUCUCUCUCUCUCUCUCUCUCUCUCUCUCUCUCUCUCUCUCUAUAUAUAUAUAUAUAUAUGGUACAGUUGCUUAUUAAUGUCAUUUUCCCCCUUCUGAUUUUUAGGCAAGCUCUUCAGCUAUACAAGGCCGAUCCUGCGCCUGUCAUUCUCGAGAUCAUCAAUACAAUCGAGGGAGGUCCGCCGGUUGAUGUUUCAGCUGUUCGUUCCAUGUAAGAUGCAAUACAGCUUUGAAAUCAGAAAUUAAAUUUUUAACUUGUGAACGGGAUGCUGUGUGAGCCGGAGUUUGAGACAGGUUUUUUUUCAAGCUAGGCUAGGUUUUAGAAGGUUUCUAUAGGAGUUUGAUAGCUCCUUCUAUUUCCUAAUGGCAGUAUUGCUGAGCAUGUGCUGCGACUUUGUUUUAAAAAAAAUGCUGUUCACAUUAUCACUAGGCUAUUUUGUCUUAAUAACAACUUAGAAGAACACAUUAUCAUUGAAGGUUUUAGAAUCCGAUCUUUGUAGAUGUGAAGGUUUACAAUAAGCAUGAGAAAGAAGAAACUCAACUCUAUGCAGAAAGUCCUAAACUAAACUGAAAGUAAUAAGCUUCAAGAUUCUUUACUGGCUAUUGAGCCUGUUUGCCAAUCUGAAGUUGUUAAAUUUGAGAUGAGGUAAUGUUCAAGAAGAGUUGAGUUUAUCCAUUGCGCGUGCAUGAUGUAUGUAGCAGCCCUUUUCCUGGAAUGGGAAAGGCAUUUUUUCUUUAAUUUAAUAUAUAUAUAUAUUUUAAGAUUGACAUCUAUUUGUGUGGCCCUGGGCCUGGGAUGAGAGGCACUGUAGUGUUGCUCAUGUAUCAGGUCUUGGUUUUUUUAAUUGAGUUUCUGAACAUGACCCUGUAUGACAUUUCCAAUAGAAUUUUGCUUAUGUCUCAGGUACCUUAUGUAUUCUGUGCACUGGAAUUUUGAUUCUGAAUAAGUAAAUCUAUGCUUGAAUUUUUCUCAUGUAAUGAACAAAAGGACAGGAGAAGAAACACUUUUCUGAAGCUAGUCAUUAUGUAUAAACUGAAAAUGCAACUUAUACUGCAGGUAUGAACAUUUGGCUAAAAGUGCACCAACAAUCUUGGAUGAUUCGCUUUCUGCUGAUUCAUAUCUCAAUGUGUUGUACUUGCCUUCCACAUUUCCUCGUUCAGAGAGAUCCAGGCGUUCUCAUGAAUCUGCAAAUAAUAAUUCCACAUAUAUUUCAGACUUUGAAGAUGGACCACGCAGCAACUUAGACAGCGUUCGGUAUGUUGAGUGUGUCAACUAUUUACAAGAAGUAAGUUGCAACUUCCUUCUAUGCUGAAGCUAGAGUUUCAAGUUUGAUACAUUUAUGUCUAGCAUCCCAGUUUACAGAUUCUAAAUGACAAGCAUCUGAAUGUUUAAACUUUGCAUUUUGACGUUUUGUUUUCAGUCACAUGCAUCAACAACAGUAUGACUAAGGAAUCUCAUCAUGAGCUACUUAUAUUACUUGCUAAUUUUUGUAGUAUUUCCUUUUUGCCUAUCUUACCAUUGCGUUUAAUGAUGUACUGCACAUUACCAAAUUUCAGAUUUAUCUGAUAUCUCUAAAUAUUUAGGUGAUACUGCAUUUGAAUGUGAGACUAUAAUGUUGGAUUUGUUAGCAGCUGUGAAGUGAGACUAGAUAUUUCGAAUUUUGAGCUUUUUUUAGCUUACCAUUUUGAGUUGUUCUUUAUUGUUUUUUAUAUUUUCUCUUGAGAUUGUGGAUUACUCUUUGUAAUUAGCUUUCCUACUUCACUAAAAUCCUAUUUUCUUUUAAAAAAAAUUAUUGCAUUUGAAUGAGUCUCUUUAGGUCAAUGUUGAACCUUCGUGAUUGGAUGGUUGCCUGUAUUGGAUUGAGCUUAAAUUUGGUUAAUAUUAUGUUCAUGAUUAGAGCAUUCAAUCCAACACUAGGAUUGACCAAAAACAAAAUCUUGAAAAUUUAUUUAAAUGGUGCGAACUUAACUGCUUUUUGGAUUUUUUUACUAAUAUCAGUUGAUCUUGCCCCACACACAUAUCAUAAGAAGUUCUGUUUUAUUUGUUUUUGUUUGGUAACACAAUUGAUAUUACAUAUUUAGGUGGUUCUUUCUUUAUUUGUUUGUAUCUUAGUGUUAUGAAUGGUAGUGUUCUUGCUACUUCCUUCUCCAGUUCUAUUGCCAAUUAUAAACUUUAUGUUUUUGUUCAUAUAAUCAGGUUCUUGUAUGUAACUUUUUGCAACCCUUUGCAGUAUGCACGACAGCAUUUGCUCAAUUUCAUGUUUAGGCAUGGCCAUUACAAUGAUGCUUGCAUGCUGUUCUUUCCUCCAAAUACUGUUGCCCCACCUCCUCAGCCAUCAACAGUGGGGGUGGCAUCUUCGUCCUCAUCCCCUCAAAGGCCAGACCCUUUGGGAACUGAUUAUGGGACUAUUGACGAUUUGUGUGAUUUGUGUAUUGGUUAUGGCGCAAUGCCUAUUUUGGAAGAAGUGAUUUCAGAAAGAAUGACAUCUGCAAACCCGAAAGAUGUAGCAGUAAACCAGUAUACUGCUGCAGCCCUUGCCCGUAUUUGCAUCUAUUGUGAAACUCAUAGGCAUUUCAAUUAUUUAUACAAGUUUCAGGUAAAGUUUUCACUUAAUGGGUUUUACUUGUACUGAAAUGAGGAUAGUAUAACAAUUUAACUAAAGAUGUUUCUUGUUGUGUCUUCAACAUAUUAAUAAUAUUCGUUGCAUGACACAAAUAGUAAGCAGUGCGACCCCUCUUACACAGUAAGUAGAGGGCUGAUGAUACCCAAAUACUAUCGGCGCCUAUAUUUCUUCAGUGCAACCCCACUAAACGUGGCUUGUUCAUGUGUUUUAUCAAGAAUUCUUCAUAAGCAUUUAUUCCAAUCUUCUGGUCCAUUUUUUCUUCCACUUGUAAACUAUCCCAACACAAAGUCCAUGCUUGUAUCCUUCCAUGGUGCUAUAGCAAUGGACAGUGGGGUUAAUUUGCAACCCAUUAACUACGGAGUUUUUAAAAACUCUUGAGCACCCAAGUGUCUCCCUCCUUGGAUUUGAGAAAAGUCUUCAUCCUUAAUUGGGUCAAGAACCUUUUUAAAUCCACCGUUAUAAAAGAUAAAGAUGUUUUCUCCAAGGCGGACAGUCUUGUUGUAAAACACCAUGGUCUUGCUGAAUAAAGAGGGCAAGCUUCUAUGUCUACCACCCCGCAUAAGACUUCAUCAAAAUAGUUAAUGGAAAAAGGAACAAGGCAUGGUUUUAUUACCUAAAAUUUCAGGACGAACCAUAUUGAUCAGUGUUCCAUCUUUUUUUUUUUCACUAUUUAUUCACUUAAUUGUUUAUUUGUUUGCAGUAUACAUUUAACUUGGGGAAGUUUUGAUCUUAUAAAUGUCCUGUUAGAAUUUAUUGCUUGAAGGUUCAUCAUUUUGUAUUUUUAUUUUCUUUUAGUUGAAUUCAGAAAUUUAUUCCAUCUUUCAGGUUAUUAAGAAGGACCACGUUGCUGCUGGACUUUGCUGCAUCCAAUUGUUUAUGAACUCAUCUUUGCAAGAGGAAGCUAUAAAACACUUGGAAAAUGCCAAGGUAUGCUUUUAUUUAUUGCUUUUGGACCACCUUAAUUGUUGAACUAUUUGCAGGAUUGUUCCUAUGCAUUUGGAUGUAUAAUGGCAGGGGAAUUUCAACCCCAUCGUUUGGGAUUAGGUCUAAGUUUGCAGUAGAUUGGGCAAGUGUAGGUUAGAAGUUUUUUAUUCAGUUUUAUUAUCCAAUCAAGCUUCCCAAAGUGUGAUGACAUUUACCUAAUUCAUUCGAUUAAUGCUUGACAGGUAAAUUACAUUUUAGAGAAUUGCUGAUAAAAUGUAUAUGUUUCACAGGAAAGCUUUGACCCUGAUAGCACCUUUGGCUUACAAAUUUAGAAUUGUUCAUAAUAACAAUUGUUGAAUACGUCCAGAUUAUGUUUCACUUCUGAAGAGCCUGGUGAUGCAAUCAUUGUAUAAAAAUGAUAUUACCUUUGUGUGUGCGUAUUAGUUACCUAAACAUGUUAGUGUUUCAAAUGUACUGAAUUUGUAGUAGUUGCCUGUAUAUGUUUGUCAUGUUGUUCAUUUAUCUUUUGUUGGUUGUAGAUGCACUUUGAUGAAGCGUUAUCAGCACGAUACAAAGGUGGAGAUUCUACUAAGCUUGUGACGAAGGGUGUUAGAGGAAAAAGUGCCUCUGAAAAGCUCACUGAAGAAGGACUUGUCAAGUUUUCGGCUCGGGUAGCAAUUCAGGUGAUUACAUGAUUCAAAUACUAUACUCUCUUAAACACUGUAAGCUUAGUUUUUUCUUGAUAGGUCAGGGCCUGCCCUUCUUGACUCUAUGUUGAUUAAUCCACUGGCAAGUAGAUUGUGCCUUUUUCUAAAGAUAGACGGUUCCCGUAAUUUUGAAAAACAGAGACAGCUGGCAUUCUUAAAGUUACUUGUAUGCACAUUAUUUUGCGAGUGAAAAUGCACAGACAAGCGGGUAUCUAAUUGCCAUGUGUAAUCUCAAAAGCAGAGAUGGAAACAGUCUAAAGUUAGAUUUGGAGAAGAGAAGAGUACGCAUGAGAAUUAAUCCAUCACGAGAUUCAUUGACCUAUGCUUGAGGAACUGCUCACAUAUAUGCACAUUUGACCAAGACAUGCACACUACCAGAAAACUUAGAGCAACGUUAUCUGCUUCUUAAUAAGUUAUGAAGAAACUACAUUUUCUGUGGCAAUUUAAAAUACUGUGAACUGUGUUGAUGAUUUGGCCCUGCCUAAGGUAUCUAAUUUUAUGAAGAAAAGAAAAAAGAAAAAAAAUCCAUGGUAGUUUAGUACAUUGUAAUCUGUAUGGAUCAAAUGAAUAUCUGACUUAUGAAUAUGUAUCUAUUUGGUUGGAACUGAUAUCCAGAAUCUAGUUAAUUCAGUAAACAGCUUGUUUGGUAUUAGUCUCUCAUGUUUCCUGUGGGUUUAUUGUAUGGCAGGUCGAAGUUGUGAGAUCCUAUAACGAUUCAGAUGGACCUCAUUGGAAACAUUCACUUUUCGGAAAUCCAAAUGAUCCUGAAACAUUCAGGUUCGAGUCAUUUUACUUACUGCUGGGCUUAUUGAUCUCUUUAGUUUUUUAUGAUAGUGAAGAAACCAAUCACUUCACUGUCCCAAGCUGUUUCUUUUGCGUUGUAUUUUCAUAUAUUUGUAUAUAUUGCACAAGCAACAAGCAUGACUAGAAUUCCAAGUUAUAAAGACAUUAUGUCUUUUGUUUCUACAAGGGCUUUUAAACAGUUUUGUUUUCUGAAAUAGUUAAUUAAUAUCAAUUCAUGUUAGCGAGUUAAAGAAAAAAACUGUUGAGCAGCGUGUCGUCGGUAGUUAAUAUGCAUUUGUCUUUUAGUUUGUCUUCCAUAAUGCGAAUGUGUCACAAAGUUGACCUUAGGCCUGUUGGGGUUUCUAUUACGAUUGUUGGUGUCAUGUUCUUUAAAAAUGUUCUUCUGCCAUGGUAUAUGGUACUUGUGAAAUAUUUUGAUAUGAUGGUGAGGAAAGUCACACCUUCUCCACCUCCUUUUUGCAGGAGAAGGUGCAAAAUUGCUGAGUCUCUUGUGGAAAAGAACUUUGAUUUGGCUUUCCAAGUGAUUUAUGAAUUCAAUCUUCCAGGUAGCCAUUGCAUAAUGAUUUCAUUUUCAAUCCCGCCUUUCUCUCAUGAAGUAAUUGAUUAGCUUCUAGGAUUAAUGCAUCUUCUCAUAAAUUUCAGCUGUGGAUAUAUAUGCUGGGGUAGCUGCAUCUCUCGCCGAGAGAAAAAGAGGUAGUCAACUGACUGAAUUCUUUAGAAACAUAAAAGGGACCAUUGAUGAUGAUGAUUGGGACCAGGUAAUGUGAUCUACAUCUCUUAGUAGAUUGUAUGUACUGUUUGUAAAAUGACUAGAAAACUUACAGUUUAUUAGUUUCUUGGGUUAGUUUUAGUUGGCUUAAGAGUUGAAAUGAUUAUAACAUAUAUGGUUUUUGACUAAUCAAAAUUUUUCUAAACAUACAAAGAGAGCAUGGAAAUUGGAGAACUGAAAAACGUCUUGAAAUUGAAAGAGUUUAUAUAGUUUGAAUCAUCAUUCAUUGAUGCUCUUCAGUAGAUUUAGUUUGAAGUAAACUAGAUGUGGAGUUGUUGGUCACGUACUUCUUAUUGUAUUGUAAGACCAAAAGGAAAAGAAAAUUUUAUUGUCACUCAAGUAUUGCAAUAUGUAUUUGUGUGUGUUUUAUCUGGCUAUAUCUGGUGCAAUUAUCGAUUAACUCACUUAUAAGACAUCCCAAUUCAAAGGUAGCUUGUGACUACUAAUCACCACAAUAAAUGAGGAAAAUGGUGAGAAUUUCGUCAUCCUCAGUAUUAUUUCAAACUUUCUACGAACGGAAGAGGAACAAUUCAAAGAUAGCUGAAAUACCUCUAAAUUAUUCUGAUCAUUGGUCGAUUAAUAAUAAACUGAUUCUUGAAAUAAAAUUUUAGCUGGCAACAUGUUUUCAGCCUAAGGUUUAUAUCUUGCAUACUUCUAAACUGUAAUUUUUUUGUAAAACUGGUUUUCUGUGUCUCCCAAUCAGCCUACUCUUUGUGGAAGCUGGAAACUAGUUCAAUUUCUGUUCUUUGUUUCUAAAUUUAAUAAAAAGUGUAUUUUUGAAUUGAUGUAGGUCCUGGGUGCUGCAAUUAACGUAUAUGCUAACAAGCACAAAGAACGCCCUGACCGUCUCAUUGACAUGUUGACCAGUAGCCACAGGUAAUGGUUUCUUUCAGUACUCCUUGUUGUCAUUAUUCAUAACUGUACAGAAGAUCUUUGAUUUUAAGUAGAUUUUGAGGACAUUAAAUUAUUAACUUUUAUGUGUUUUUACUUUUUAAGGCAUUUCAUAGUAUUGGUGGUGAUCUGUCAGUGUCAUUAACCCAUUGCUGCUUGAGACCUGCUUUAGGUUCCCAUUAUUGUUCAAAAGUAUCACUUUACCAUUGUGGUUAUUGAUCAAGUUAAUAAUUAAUGGACCCAGACCUCAACAUUUAUGACCAUAUAUGCCUGCCCCAUCCUUUGUUGGCUUCUACUUGCAUACUUCCGUAUGUGGUCUCUUUUUACGGCACUCAAUAAUUACUGUAUAGAACAAGUCUUUGGAUGAAUGCUGAAAUAAUGUUUUCUUUUGGUCAAUUUUUCCAAGCAAUUAACAAUGUCAUUCUUGAGUUAGCCGCUUUAGUUUUACGGCACUGGGAUACUGUUAACUUUGAUUAGUUGAACUUUGGUGCUGAGAAAUUUGUUCCGUGCUUUUUUUGUAUUUGACUUGUAUAUGCAGGAAGGUUCUGGCUUGUGUGGUUUGUGGUCGUCUAAAAAGUGCAUUCCAAAUUGCUUCUCGUAGUGGAAGUGUAGCUGAUGUCCAAUAUGUAGCUCAUCAGGUUACCUUUCUUUCCUCAGAAAAUCUCCCAUAUCUCCCACACUAUCCUUUUCAUCUAUUAAAACUGUGAUGUGGCAGACAUAGGAGAUUAGAGAAGAUGAUAAUGCGCCUAUCACAAAAGAAUCCAUGGAAAAAGGACAUUAUAGGUGUUUAUGUUUUUUACUUGUUUAGGGCUGUUUUGGUUUGGAAUCCAAAAACAAUUACAUUUGGAUUACAGUUUGAGUUUUUUUUUUAAUAUAAUAUAGAUAUUUGGCCUAAAAAUUGAAACCCAGUUUUACGUCUAUGAUUCUUGUGAAAUCAGCUCACCCGCUCCUAUACUAUAUUUAUUCAUAUAGUUAUGCCAACUUUUUUUGCAGGCAUUACAUGCUAAUGCACUUCCUGUGCUCGAUAUGUGUAAACAAUGGUUGGCCCAGUACAUGUGAAAUGUUGCUUGAGGAAAUUACGACCAAUACAAAUUAGGGUUGGCCUUGUUUAGUUAGUUUUCAAACUUUGCUGCACUCAGAAAGGUUGAAAGCCAUGGAGCCUGGUCAAAGAUAGUGGAACCAGUUGCUACUAGAACGGCGUGGUGCUGAAUCUGAUAACUGGUGAUACAUGAACUUUGAACACAUAAGGCAUUUGUCUUCCUUGGCGUUUGCUCCUGCCACAAAUUUUUGUUUUGUAUUGUCCCACCGGCAUUGCCGAAGCUGCUAUUGACGCAUUGAGUUAGCUCUGUCUUAUUGUGAAUGUUCGGCAACUUUGCUCAAGUUUGAAAACAUGCAUAGGGAACAUCAUAUGAAAAGGCCGAACGGAUAUCGAAAAUAAUUUGUGCAAGUAUGAGUGCACAAGUUUCUCGCAUGCGGCAUGAAAGUUAGUCUAAUUGGAAAGAGUGGUGUAGAAUUGAGUUGAAACUAGCUUGAUACGGUGUUUCUUUGCUUCAUCAUUGAUUUCAGUUAGUUGAGUCAAGUUGGGAGGAGUGCCUGCGGCUGUAGAUAGAUAGAUUAUAGAGGAGUGCCUGCGGCUGUAGAUAGAUUAUAGAUAGAUGGGAAAGAAGAAUAGCCUUAUCUUUGUAUAUGUUUCUGUUUUCGUUUUAAAUUUUGCCCCGUGUUUUUUUAUUUUUUCAUUUUAUUUGUCAGAGUUUGAUGUUUUGUAAAAUCUUGGAUCUUUAAUUCCAUAUUUUUCUUAUUUUCUAUCGCUAUGCAGAAUGAAGAUUAUAUUUUACUGUUCAUAAAAAAUAAUUUAUAGACGCUAUGAUCGAUUUAUGAAUAAUACGCCAUUACUUAUAUCCAAAAUUUAGCAGUGAGACUCGGACAUUGUAUUUGACCAUUGAAGUUCGACUAUCUUUUUCAAGAAGCACAUUCACGUGCUUGUCACGUGCUGAGCUGUUGUGGCUAUUUUGACUAGAAUACCCCUUCACAAAAUCAAUGAAAAUUGGAAAUCUGACUGAAAUUGGUAAAAUGUGAAGACCACAUUGGCAUUUUCAACAAAAAUAAAACCACUCGACUUUUUAUUUAAAUCACUAGAACCUACCAUUUAUGAUUACACAUAAGGUAUUUUUUAAUUUUUAAUAUUUAUUUUUUCCUUAAAGCAAGGCAAAAUGUCAAUAGGCCUAGCCUAAGGCCGCCUAUAAAACGUCCUACUUUAGUUUACUCAAGUCAAAAAUUAGGUGUGAAAGGACGAAAACAUGUGAUGCUGACGUGGGACAACAGGUUUUCAGAUUAAGCUCAAUGAAUAAUAUCGAAUUUUAUAUAUAUGUAUAUAUUGACGAUUUGGCCACGGGCAUGACAUCCGCGUUCAUUCAGUCAAAGAAUUAACAGAUGAUGACGUUCACGUAUUAUAAUCUAGAUGAUGAUGUUCACGUAUUGUAAUAUAAGUGCAUACAAACAAAGUCAGCCUCGCUAGUCUAACAAAAAAUGAAAAUCUUAGGCUAACACCUUCGAAUAUUCAAUAUGAAGAAACUUCUUUCUUCAAUAUCUCAAUACUUUAUCAUAAUUUUUACGAAUUGACAAAAUAUUAUUGAUAUGAAAAAGAAAAAGAAAAAAUCCAAUAUGACGGUGCGAAUUGACCAAAUAAGGCAAGACAUUAAGAUGACACUAGUAGUUUAUAGGAUUUGCCUUAAGCAAAGGAAUAUGAUACAAUUAAUUCCCUAAAUCUGCCAUCUUCACGCGAAUUAUGUUACAACAAUGAAUACUAUAAGAUGGUUUGAUAGCUCUCUACCGCCUUACCCUUAUUAUAUAAUAAUUAGCCCUAAUACUUGCACAAAAUAGUAGAACCUAUACAUGGCUAUAUUAUUAUUCUAAUUCAACGAGAUCGUAGACUUGCAUAAACAAGGGGCAAAAAGAGCUCUCUCUCUCUCUCUCUCUCUCUCUCAACAAUGACGUCGUGGACGGAAACAACCUCGCCGCUCCCUUUGCUGUUCCGAAGGCGGUCCAGUGGGGAAAUCAGAAAUUUGGCCUCAGUCUCAAGCAGCAUCUUACCGGCUUUUGGAACUGUGGUCGAUGAAGGGCACUUGCAGCUCAAGAAAUUUGUUAUUGCUCCCUACGACAGGAGAUACCGGUAAAGUAUCAAGAUAUAUAUUCACUGUCUGACAACACAUCUUGAGACAUAUAUUCACAAACUGGCAAAAGAUCAUUCGAUGUGUAUGUUUGAAUGUGACGUCGCAGGUGGUGGCAGGCGUUCUUGGUGUUGCUGGUGAUAUACUCAGCAUGGGCGUCGCCGUUUGAGCUAGCCUUCAAGAAAGUGGCAACGGGGUCUCUCAUGCCCGUUGAUUUGGUGGUGGAUGCGUUCUUCGCCGUUGAUAUAGUCCUAACGUUCUUCGUGGCUUACUUGGACAAGUCAACUUACCUUUUGGUGCUUGAUCACAAGAAAAUUGCUUUGAGGUAUGAUGCAUAUAUCUCUCCUGAAUUUGCUCCCAUUCGUCUCCAAAUUGAUUGCUAGAAAAACAUAUAAACGUGAAACGUUUAGGAGCGAUUCAUGGUCAUAAAGGCAGUUUUUUUUUUUAUAAUCUCUUUUAAACUGUUCUUGGCGUUGUCCCAUAGGCUUUUCAAAAAAAAUAUAUGUUAUAACAGGUGAGACAUUUAAGGGUAAAACUCAAUGACCAAAAUUGCAUUUUACUCAAACAGAAAUUAAAGUUUAAGGAAAGAAUCAACAAAAAAAAUUGGAUACCAUUUAUAACAUGAUAUAGAAGAAGAUUUGAUUUUGGAUUUAAGUGGAAACUAAUAUGCAAAGUUUUUAAAAAAUUUGAGCUUAAAUUCACUAAUCCAAAUUAAUGAGAGAUUUGGAAGGAAAAUUAUAUUCUAAAAAAGUUGAAACAAAUUAAUGUAAAUAAUGGUUUCAAAACAUAUGAGAUUAAGACAAGUUUAUAGAACAAACAUAAAAUUGGUUUACUUAAUAUUAGAAAGUCGUGCCGUUUUUAUGUUUGUGUUAAUUAAUGAUUGCCAUAGUAACAAUUACCGUCCCCAACCUAAUACGUUUUACUUUGAGCCCCGUUUUAUGCUUUUACAAGAAAAGAAAGAAAAAAAAUUGUCCCUCGGGUAGCCUAGCCCUAUACCCCAUUAUAGACCAUAGCCUUGCGGCCCGUGAUAAGAUUCGGUUAGCAUCUGGGGACACUUGAGUCAACAAAAUCCAAAGCACCAUUUGGCCCAGCACUUUUUGUUAUAUAUUUUUUAUUUUUGUCCAAAAUCGGGCUUAGCCGAUUUUCUACCACAUUUGAAAUUUUUUAGAUAAGACAGUCACAUCGUUACGUGGUAUUACUAAUAUAUAUUUUAUUAAAUUAAUAAACGAUAUAGUUGAUAUUUGAUGGACCUAUAGUGAUAUAGUAUUAAUAAAAUAUAUAUAUACAUUAUAAUAUUAAUGAAUUGAUAACACUAUGUGAUCUUGAUACUGAAAAAGAUGUAACGAGGAAUUAACAAUUACCAAAGACAAUUUGAAAUGAUGAUGAUGGUAAUACAAUCUCCUCUUUGUUGGGUACAGGUAUGUGAUAAGCAUAUAUUUUGCAAUGGAUGUAGUCUCAACUCUACCAAUUCAGCUCAUAUACAGAAUGUUUACUGGCAAUUCACACUAUGCCCAGGUCUUUGGCUUCCUCAAUUUGCUUCGUCUCUGGCGUCUUAGGCGCGUCAGUGAACUCUUCAAAAGGUACCUAACUAGCUACAUAAUGUAUUAAUCACACAUAAUUCACAUUUGAUUUUAGAUCCUAAUCAAGAAUUAAUCUCUUAAUUAAUUUCCUGCAGGCUAGAGAAGGACACACGCUUUAGUUACUUUUGGAUAAGAUACAUCAAACUAAUUUGUGUAAGUAGUUUCCCUUCACCAUUCCCCCAUCAUUCCACUCACCAAAUUUUACUACUUUGAGCUUUGUUUCGUUCACCACACAUUUCGCUUUAUUUGAUACAAUUUGAUAUCCAAUAUGUUAAGUUGAUCACACAUUUAGACCGGAUUCUAAAUAAUCAACAGUCUUGAUUAAUAGUUUGACAACAUAGCAUGUUAGAUCAAUUGCAACAGGUUUCAUACUUAACCUCUCUUUUCCCAUGCAUGAGCACAGGUUACACUAUUUGCGGUGCACUCAGCAGGUUGCUUCUACUUUUGGAUGGCCACCCAUCACAAAACAUUAUCGAAUACAUGGAUUGGAACGCAAGUCAAUGACUUUGAGCACAAAAGCAUCUGGUUGUGUUACACCUAUUCCAUCUACUGGGCCACUGUCACCCUCACCACCGUUGGAUAUGGCGACUUGCAUGCAGUCAACUCUGGGGAGAAGAUCUUCAGCAUCUUCUAUAUGCUAUUCAACAUUGGCCUCUUUGCCUAUUUGGUUGGAAACAUGACCAAUCUCGUCGUCCAUAGCGCAGUCCGAACCUUAUUCAUGGUAAAUUUUACUCAUGCUGAACUGUUGAUGUGUGUAAAACUCACCAUGAAAUCCACAACCAUCAACUCUCCAAAUUACCUAUACGUAAAUGAUUAACGCUAGCAUUUCACUUAGAUAAAUGAGAUUCAAUAGUCAAGACUAACUUGGGUGACUAAUUGUAUAUUCUGUUGAAUUAUGGUUUAUAUAUAGAGGGAUGCAAUCAAUGAAAUAUUCAGAUACGCAAGGAAGAACAGGCUCCCAGAAGGCUUGAAAGAGCAAAUGCUGGCACACAUGCAACUCAAGUUCAAGACAGCAGAGUUACAGCAAGAAGAAGUGCUAGAAGACCUUCCGAAAGCAAUCAGAUCCAGCAUUUCCCAGCAUCUCUUCCGCAGAACCGUCGAGAAAACGUACCUAUUCAAAGGAGUCUCUGAGCACCUCACUGUUCAAUUGGUAUAACCAUUUUCUUCCCUCUGAAUCUUAACCCAGAAUAGGAUUUUGUUUUGCCAAUUUACCAGAGACAUUGUUAUUGCAGGCGUCGGAGAUGAAAGCAGAAUAUUUUCCACCCAAAUUUGAUAUUAUCUUACAAAACGAAAUUCCAACAGAUUUUUACAUUUUAGUAUUUGGAGCAUUGGUAUACUCUCUCUCUCUCUCUCUCUCUCUCUCUCUCUCUCUCUCUCUCUCUCUCUCUCUCUCUCUCUAUAUAUAUAUAUAUAUAUAUAUACACACACAAGAAACGUAAUUUAAUUGCACAUCAUAUUUGAAACUGCAGGACGUGCUGCAAUACAAGAACGGCACAGAACAGGUAUCUUUAAACACUUCAUUAUGAUCUAUUCAAUACACUAUUUCGGGGUCUAUAACCUCUCCUGUAUGGAAGAUGCAAUUUACCGGCUCUCAAGGUCCCCGAUAACAAACGGUGGGGAUGGUAAGUUGCCUCUGUCAUACAGAAACUGGGUCUAUGUUCCUACGUGGUAUUUUAACUGUAAUUUCUCAACAUGAAGAAGUAAUCUCCAGGUAAACACAAAAGACCGAAGAGUUUAAGAACUUAUUGUAAUGUAGCAAAACAAAAUAAGGGCUAUGUUAUAACGCAGCGAUAGAGUGGCUAGCUAUGAACAAGGGGCACCUCUUGGCAUUGUAGGAUGUCAAAACCAAGAAUCAAAUUAAGAAAAAACCGAUAGUCAGAUGACUUAAGCAUGUAUUUUGAACUAAAUUCACUUAAGUAGUAUCUGAGACUGCUAACAGCUCCUAAUGUGUCUCUCUAUACACAAAUUGAGUUAUGUCUGUUAAGCUUCCAAUAACCUGCAGAGGCAAAUGAACAACGAUUAUCGAAAUAUCAACUUUAAACCAUAUUCAGGAAAGGAGAUCGUUGUCAUUUAAAAAUGGUUCAUAUCAGACUUCCUCUACAAUUUAAAGGAUGCUAUACAUAUGGAGUUGAAAUACAGAAUCACAGGUAUGGUAAAGCAGAAACCAUGAAAUAUCUAUCUCUUCUCCCACCUUUAAAGGAAAAAAGAAUGUCAAUUGGGAGAUUCCUAACAUGUAAAACAAACUAGCUGGUGACGUAUGAAUCAACUCUCGGAAGAUUUAAGGAUUCUAUCAUAGAGACAAGCUACUACAACAAUGUUGACAGUGAGAAGCAGAUGGGCAGAAUUAAUUAUCUGAACCCUUAUCUUAUAUAUAUUUUCCUGAUUAAACUAGCUUGUAUUUUUCAGUUUUUGUCAAAACUAGGAUCUGCAGACUUGGUAGGGGAGAUUGGAGUAUUUUUCAAUACCCCCCAACCUUUUACAGUGAGAACAAAAAAGCUUUCUCAGGUUAUCCGGAUCAGCCAUCAUCAUUUCAAGGAAAUGGUACAGCCACAGAAUGAAGACGGUAUGAUAAUGAUCAAAAACUUCAUUCAGGUUCGUAACAUUAUUUAUCUCAUUUGUCCCCUCAUAAUUAUCAUAACAUUGUUAUUCAACCAUUUAGAAAUUUCUUAAACAAUACCACCUUAUAACUUGAGUAUUAUCAGCUAGCAAAUUUAGCUUUGUACUGUAACCUGAAUAUCCAUUGCUCUCAUUUCCUUCUUUUAAGAUAUAUAACUAACCCUAAUGCAUAGGCAUUUGUUUACACUGACUCUUUUCUACUCAGCACUUGAAAGACUUAAAACAAGAGAUGCUACAAGAAAUCCCAUUUCUAACAGAAUCGCUGGAUGAGCUGAAUAUAGAGGUACACAUCUCCCUUUUUAACAGAAUACCUAGACUGUAAAUCUAAGUCUACUUAUCUAGCUUUUCCUUAGCUUGCAUUGUAUUUCACAAGGUAUUUGUUUAUCGAAGAAAAUAUUAUGAAUUCUCACCAACGUAAAAGCCAGUAGUGAGUAGUUUCAUUUCAUGCUAAUGAUGAUGACUACAUUUUCAUUGCAGCAUAUACAAGCAAAUGAGAAUACACAAUAUAAUGAGCUGGUGAAUUUCCAUGGAGAUACAAAUAUGGAAGGUAAUAGCAUUUGUGCCAUGUUCACUUACUAUUAAAUUCAAUCUUUGUAUGUAUUAAUAGGUUUGCUAUCAUUUGUACAGAGACAAACGAAACUUCUACUCCAGGGGCAAUCACCCUAAGAGUGAUAAUUCAUGGACAUCAUCCAGAUGAAGGUGACACGAAUGGAAAACUGAUUCAUUUGCCUGAAUCAAUGGAAGACCUUCUGAGAUUAGCAGGUAAUACCAAAUCCGAUACCCCUACCUCUAAAAACCUCUUCUUUUACUAAUGCUUCUUUUCUAAAACAAUACCAAGAUAUUUAUUGAAGACUAAGCUAACCAAUUCCAAAAUACUGUAAGAUGGUCUUGGAUGAUACGUGGCUAUUACAAAUUUGAACGAAUGAGAAUCUAAAAUCAGCCCCUAGAAGGCCAGAGAGUUCAAUGAUUUCACACAUUGCCAAACAAUAUAGAAUAUAUAUAUAUAUAUAUAAAAAAAAUAUCAGAAUCAUCUCAGAAUUGAGUUAUUGGGCUGCCAUUCAAAUUCAUACAUAAAAGAAGAUAAAUUCAAAUUCAUAAAUUCACAUCAAUGACAGCAUUUUGUUUUUUGUUUUUGUGAAUGCAGAGAAAAAGUUGGGAAAAAGAGGAAGCACAGUUGUGAUGGGGGACGGCUCACAGGUCGAAGAAUUAGACGCAUUAAGAGACAACGAUCACUUGUUCAUCUUUUGAACAUGAACAUGAAAAUGAUGUAUGAAUGAUCACUAAUCAGUUUCAGUCACCUUAUCAAUGAAAUUAUAUAGCGUAACUCAUGUCAAAGAUGAAGAUUGGAAGAAGAACUUACAGCACCUACAUGCUAUGCUCUGUUAUUGAGCAUCUCUAGAACGGCAUAAGCAGCUUUCUCAACUUGUUCUUUGGCUUCCUCCAAGCCUCUCUUCUUCUCAAGACUCUGCUCUUUGCACUUCUCUAUCUCUUCGGUUAUUCCGGCAGAGUUCUCAUCAAUUUCGCUACCAAAAAAAAAAAAAACAGAUCGCAAUCAGAACUUCAUAAUAUGCAGAGCGAUCAAACAGCUCCUUGAAAUUAAAAUCAAAAUUGAAAAGCCUUUGAAAACUAACCUCAUCAUCUUCAACAUGUUCUCCAUUGCGCCCUGGACUUCUUGUGAAAUCUCUGCACGAUUUGAUUCAAAUUUUUUACAAAUCAAAUAGAUUUCAUCGGCGCUCAAAAAUCUCAAAACCUCAAACCAAACCGCGCUAAGAAAUCGCAAAUGACAAUGAAAUUGUGCGAGGGAGAAAUGAACUGACCGUAGACGAUAGAUGACAUCUGAGACUCGGUCUCCGGUUGAAGUUGGAGCUGAAGAUCCGGCUGCGAUGGUGAAGAAGACGCCAUUGAGCAGUAGAUGAGUGGAUUUGUGUGUGUAAUUUUAAGCUUUGCAAAGGAUAAGGCGGCGUAUCCAAUUGAGAUUUUAAUAGAUUGUAAUUACAUGAUUUUAAUGUAAUGGAUUUCCGCCGUAUUUAUAAUUAUAUGAUUUUAUUUAUAAUUUUAAUAAAUUAUAAUUACAUGAUUUUAUUUAUGAUUUUAAUUCACUUAUGGUUUUAUUUAUAAUUUUAAUAGAUUGUAAUUACAUGAUUUUGAAGGAAUAUACCCAAUUUUUAGGAUAUAGAUAUCCAAUUUUUAGGGUUAAUACAAAGAUGAAGGCACAUUAACCAUCAAAGGUUAGUCCAAGGAGACUACAUCGACAUCAACAAUGUAACUCCCAACAUAGCCACACAUGGCAAGAAUGAAUACGUUAAAGAAACACAACACAACUGAGAAACCAACAAUAGAAAUACAAAAACAUAAGCAAAAGCUAGAAGCUACAUCCAAAACCACAAACACCUAAUGCAAAACAUAUAGCACUAGAAAUACAAAAUAAAGAAACAUACUGAAAACUCCUAGCCCAACCCCAUGACUACUAGUUUUUGUCAAAGCUUAGACCAAAACUGUGGAGUGAAAAAAACACUUUGCACCUUAUCAACAUUUCUUCUAGAUUGUGGGCAAGGCUUCUUCUUUAUGUUUUUGUUUUUUCCUUGUCCCAAAUGUUUGGGACAUAGAAUUAGAAAAAAUAUUUAACCAUGUGCGCUGUUUGGCUUAAUUGAAAAGUGGUUAGCCAACUAUUUAUAUAGAUGUGGAUUUAUAGCCUAAAUCGGGCUAAUUGCUAAUUGAUACACCAGGAAAAUGGAGGGAACUAAAAACCUAUUGAGUUUGAAAUUGUGCUUAUUCAAAUAGUGGCAAAGCCACUCCUAGACCUGGAGUGGCCUUGGCCCCCUCAUAUUUUUAUCACUUCUCUAUUAUAUUAUAUAUAAUAUAUAGAAUUUGUAAUAAACAACUUAAAAUUUAAGUUAAAAUUUCCUUUCAAAUAAAUUAGACAUGACCCCAUUAAAAAUAUUUAGCUCUAAACAUGUAAGUAUUGAAUACUUAAAUGUUUUAUAUACUUGUAUUUUCUACUUUGACCCCUCUAUUUUUAUAUUUUUAGCUCUGCCUUUCAUCCUUUAGUCUAUUGACAUUCCAUGCGAAUUUUGUUAAGAUUUUUUUAAAAUUUUUAACAUCAUAUAUGAUACUUAAAGGAUCAGUCGGGAGAUUUUUUUUAUUUUUUAUUUAUUAUAUUUUUUAUUUUGAGGCUAAAUAGGAAGCACAUCAAAAUUAGCAUGCACUUCACUUCAUUGCCUUCCUUAAUUGAAGCAACUAGAUAUUGAAUAUUGGAAUUAACUUUCCUUUAAAAAAAAAAAAUUUAAAAUUCACCGAACAAUUGAAUAUAAAAUUUCGGAGAGGGACGCAAAUACCCCCAACAGGCCAACACUGUGUCCACGUGAACAUAUCUACGUGUAGCGUUUACCGAGGAGAAGAAAAAGGUAAUUUAAAAACAUAUUAUUAUAAUAAAUAUAUUUUUGAAAAACCUCUCAUAUAUUUGUUUAUUCCUUACACUUGGAAUUUUUUGGAACUUGUGGAGGUAGCUAGCGUGAUAUAUAAUCUCUUUUUUUUUUUUUGUUGGGUAAGUAGGAAACUUCGAGGAUAUAAGGCUUUGUAAUUACAUACAAUUAGCCCUUAUUAAAACACACGUAUGCUUUUAUUAUUAUUAUUUAUUUGUUGUUUAAGUAAUUUAGUAUUACGUCAUUUACUAUGUUUUGUUUGGAAAAUAAAAUAAGAAGAAGCAGCAGUAAAAGCACCACAGAAAAAAGUGAAACGUACAUUCAUUGCAGUCCUUUUAUUCACGUGGGACCCGCAUGAUUUUACACAGAUCCCCAUCCAAGGUCCAUCCAUCCCAUCCCAGGAGUCGGUGGACGGUUCAGAUACGUUUUCCUGUUCGUAUUUUUUUCUCUAUACGUAUAAAUACAAUUUCAUCGUAUAUACUCAUACGGCGUAGAUUAAAUAUGGGCCUUGGGUUCGCAUUGGGUUGUGGGCUUAAAUCUAGCAAAGGUGUAGAAUUAUUCUUCCAACCUAUUGUGAUAUAUUUCCGAAAUAAAACUCAUAAACGAAAAAAAAAAGGUCUAAAUAAAAAGUCAUGAAAAUCAUCAUAAAGUAUAAUGUCCACGAAAGUUUGGUACUAAUAAUUUAUGCUUGACCAAAAACAAACAUAAAAUAUUAAAUUUAUUGUCGUAUAAAGUAACAUGUUUUUUUUUUAAAUAACAAAUAAAUAAAUAAAGAUUCAAAACUUUUGAUUGAAGGAAAAGUCUAUGCAAUUCCUAAUUAGCCUUAUAAAUUUUCACAACUAUUUUAAUAUCUAUCAUCUCUCAAUCCUCUUUUUCUUUUUUCUUUUUUUAACAUUGGAGUAAACCGAAUCAUCAAUUUAUUAUCAUCGUUUCAAUAGACGUAGAACAAGUGGAAUAUUUCCAAUGCAGUCAGCCACAUAUCAUAAAAAGCAAUGCAAUAAGUUGGAGAACAAUUCCACAUGAUCUAUAUGUAUUAGAUAGUACAUCAUGCAUGUGGUGUACCCGGAACAUAUAAAAAUUUCCCCACUACCUCACCCUUCCUCGCUAUUUAAGCUCCCAAUCCUGUUUUUUUUUUUUUUUUUCGUGUUCGAAAAUAAGUUUGAUUGGGAAAAUAUUAGAUAAGAUAAAGACAUUUUUACAAUCAAUGUAUAGCAUAGCAUGAGUAGGGAGGGGAAAGGGCAAAGGUACUGGCUCCACCAAACACUCAAAGGUGCUUUGGUUUUAUUUCAUGGGGGUUGUGAAUAAUCCAAUUUACAAUAAUUUUGCAUUUUUUUGUGGUCCCAUGUAUUUAUUGGCAUGUUUCUCAAAUCUCAGAAAGAAAAAAAGAGCUUAAACUCACUCAUAUGCACACACACAACAUGAAAACUAUUGGAUUACACUAUUGAUACAUAAAAACCUUAAAAAACAUGUGAAAAAUUAGUCAUUGUCUAGGCACUGCUAAGCUUGGCUUCAAUCCAAAACAUUUAUGUAUGGAUAAAAAUUGUACCACAUGUGGAUUUGUAAUUUGAUGUUGGACUUUUAUAAGUCAUCGCAAUAUUAGUAACCUUUUAUCAUAACAUGGAAUUUAUAAACACUCAACAAAUCUCAAAUGUAUAUGUGGAGCCCACCAUAUCAUUUUCAAACGUGCAUAAUUUACGAAGAAAUGAAAUUAUUGUAUGUUACUAAAAUAUUAUUAAAAAUGUAAUUAUUUCAUUUGUUAUAAUAUGAGGGUGGUCGAUUCAUACUUUAUAACAUAAGAUAUGAAAUAUAUAUUAUAACACUAGUGGAUAUAACACCACGUGUAUACUAUAUUACUAUUGAGAUGAUUCUUUUUACCGUCUAUGUUAUUUAUACUCUCUUUUUUUUUAUUAAUUUAAUAAAAUUAUAUCUCAUUUUUAUAAAUAAAAAACACCACAUGAUAGUGCAAUGGUCUUGUCCAAAAAUUACUCGGUAUUGAAGAGCUCUAAACCACUUGAAUGGGUUAGCUGAUUUAACUUUAAAAAAAUAUUGGUCCAAGGCAUUUAAUUGGUCAUUUUGCCGUAUUGUUUAUCUCGUUUGGGGUUUGGGUGGUAGGUCGCAUAGCACUUUCCGUCCAGUAAAAACGUUUACUCUAAUUACAAAUCACUCUUGACUAUUGAGAAAUACCAACAUUAACGUAUGCUCUAAUAAAUCCGACAAUUUCUUACUUCUCGAAGGGGGUAGUAGGGUUGAUAAAAUUAACUAUUGUUCAUCAUGAUUUAAAUGAAUUUGAGAUAUUAUUAUUGGGAUGACUUCCUUUACAGUAAGUAUAUAUCUUUUAUACUUUUUAUUUAUUUAAAAUUAAUUUAAUAAAAAAAUUUCAAUUUUUUUAUCAAAAUUGAAUUUGAGAUUUUUAUUAGACUACGAGAAAUUAAAGGCAAACUAAAAAAAGUCUCAAUUUUUUUUCUUGUUUAAUCAUUUUGACGGUAAAAUGCACUUGACAGAGUUAAAAGGGUAAAAAAAUGAAUUCCACCUCGGAUCAAAUUCAAAAGGGUAUAGGAAAAGCAAAGACCAAAUGCAUGUAAUUAUUACCCUAACUACCCCACGUGUUCCCCCAUCGAGCAAAAGAUUUAAAAAAAAGGUGAAUUUAGCACAUGAAAUAAACAUGGUAAGGAAAACAAAGACCAAGUUGUAAAUAGUUAAGCAAUGUACAAUGUCCAAAUCAACCCUUUUGCAUUAAUAUAUGACAUGCUUUUGGUAGAAAAUAAUUAAGUCACAGCCUUUAACAAUUUAAGCUACUUUACUAACUAUAAUUAGUAUUAUGUUAUUAAAAGCUGGGCCAUUGAGCUGUGAGAGAGAUCAUGUGAUUUACACAAAAACAGCCAAUAGAACUUACACAAAAACAAUAAAAUGAAGGAAAUGUCACUUUCAUGAGAUUUUGAGAGAAACUCAAAAGUGAGGUUAUAAUUUGGUAUGAACCAGUUUGGAUCGGUUUGUGAGAAUAUUUGACUUUUCUUAAUAUAAACAGAACAAACGACCAAUUGGGUCCCGUAACCUGGUUUUCUGGUUAAUAUCCCACCCCUAGUUUUAAAGGCAUGUCAUAAUCUUUUGGAAUGGAAAUGGUCCUACUUAUUUUUCCAUUAUAUUUGUUUGGUUUCAUUCGUUUGGUUGCAUCUAAAGUUAUAAACCCGCCGUUAACUUCCAAUGAAGUACUAGAGAAAGAGUGCAAGAGAUGUCAUGUCACAUUACAUUGAUACAUACCACCACGUGUCAAAUUAAAUAAAGGCCAAAGGACAUGUUGUACAUUUUGGAAAAUGCCAAAGAUGAGAGAAAUAUUUUUUAAAAAAGUCAAGAUGGAUAAAAAUACCCUUAUUUACAUGUCUUUGGUUUAAAAGUUGAGGGGUUUUUUUUGUCUUUUUGAUAAAAAUUUUGACUUUUUCUAAAAGUGAAAGUUUUUUUGUGGCUAAAACUUAAAUUUACUAAAUGUCUUUAUCCUCUUCAACACAUUGCAAUAAUAAUGCACAAGACGCAUUAAUUAUUAGUAAAUUAACAAACAACUCUCAAAAUCAUUCAAUGUUUACCCAUGUCAUUAAUUUAAGGGGAUAUGAAUUAUGGGGGUUAUAAGAUACUAAUUACAAAGCCAAUGGAAACAAGACACGAAAAUGCAAACUAACAAUGUUUAUUGCAGUUUGUCUUCCAUAUACAUGCAUCAAUAAUACAAAUAAAAUGAAAAGUGAUCGUUUCAAUAAAUAACCAAAUCAUUAAUAAUUGUUCUAUUAGUUUUCUUUAAAGACGAUUGAAAUGAAGCCUGCUUUUUAAAGUAUAAUUUUCUUUUUAGCCAACUUUAUGAAAGGGUGGCAUGAAACUCACACAUACGUGUAUCAUGUGAGCUUCAAUUUGGAAGCACACCAAAGGUCUAGGUCAAUUCAACUAAGAGCAUCUCUAAGGGAGAUGUUAAAUCCAACGUUGCACUUUUAGCAGGUAGAAAAAUUAGAUGAUACUCACUCCAACCGAAAUGUUCCUACGUGGAAUAAUAUUUCUCUCUCUUGCUAUUAUUUUAAAUUUAAUGACUAACGUGGAAAUUUGACAUAUUAUAGAGUUUUACAUUCCACCCGAUAUGUCAAAAUAAAAUAUUAUUUCAUUACAUAUUGUUUAUUGAUUUACUUUAAUUGAGGCACAUUAUUGAAAAAUAAUAAUAAAAUAAUAAAAUAGCAUCACAAUGUCAAACAACAAAAAGUAACAGCAAUAGAAAGAAAUGUUAUUCCACAUAUGAUUUAACAUUUCGGUUGGAGCGAGUCUUAAUUAUUUUUUUACCUACUAAGAGCAUCUCCAUGGGAGAUGUUAAAUACUAAACAUCAAAUUUAAAUUUGAUGGAUGAUGUGGUAAUUUGACAUCUUACACAGCUUUACACUCCACCCGAUAUGUCAAAUUAAAGUAUUAUUUUAUUACAUUUUAGUGUUGAUUCAUUUUUAAUUAAAAAAAAAAGAAAAGAAAAAAUAAUAAGUCAAACCGAUGUGUCAAACGUGCCACACAGACAUUCAACAGCUAGAAAUAACAUCUCACAUCACUCCAACCGAUGUGUCAACGCUGAUGUGGAAUGAAGGCUGAAAGUUGAGAUGUUAUUUUUGACAUCCCAAAAGCCUGAUGUCAAAUGAAUAUUUUAUUAUUUUGUCUUUUCUUUUCUUUUUAAUUAAAAAUAAAUCAACACUAAAAUGUAAUAAAAUAAUAAUUUAAUUUGACAUAUCGGGUGAAGUGUAAAGCUGUGUAAGAUGUCAAAUUGCCACAUCAGUCAUCAAAUUUAAAUUUGAUGUUUGGUAUUUGACAUCUCCCUUGAAGAUGCUCUAAGAGUAUCUCCCAGAGAAAUGUCAAAUGCAAAAUGUUAAAUUUAAAUUUGAUGGCUUAUGUGGCAAUUUGACACUUUGAAAAAAAAUUUAAUUCCACUUGAAAUGCCAAAUAUCAUAUUAUUUUAUUUUUUAAAAGCAAAUAGGGCUCAUAUAAUGCAUAAAGUUUUAAAAGAGAGUAAAUGAUAGUGGGGUCUAUGACUAAAAAAAUCUUAAAAUAAUAUUUGACAUCAAGCUUUUUGAUAUGUUAUUUUUGACAUAUCUCUUCCAGCCUUUAAAUCCAUGUAUGAUUUGACUACUCGGUUGGAGUAGCUUUAAUAUUCAAUUUUUGCCAUUUUGUGUCCAUGUGACAAUUUGACACAUUGGUUGGAGAUACUCUAAAAGUCCCAUAUAGGAUUUAACAUCUCCAAGGGAGAUGCUCUGAAAAAAAAAAAAAAACCCCACUUUUUACCCAAAAAUAAAACACCCCAUUAGUUAAAGUAAAUUUCACAUCCAAAGUAUCUUUAACUGACAUAUCAAAUUAUCAUGUGAACAUAAAAUGCUAAGCAUUAAAGGAGAAAUUUGUUUCAACAUGCAACAAAGACAUUAAAAUUGACAUCAUAUAAAAUUUGGAUGUCAAGUGUUAUUUUAAUAUUUUCUCAUGGUGAAUCUCACAAGUAUUUACUUUCUUUUAAAGUUUUAAUCCUCACGUGCUCUAUAUCUUUUUUUUUCAAAGUAUCAAAUUUCUAUAUAGUCUAUUAAAUUUAAAUUUAAUAUUUUGUAUAUGACAUAUCCUUUAUAUCAUUUUUUUUCUCCAUAAUUACAACAACAAAAAACCUUACAUACUCCGGUGAUGCGACUCUUGUAUAUACACUAUUCAUUACGUAAUAGUCUAAUCACCUAACAAGUGUUGUGAAUAUAAAAAUUAUUACAUCAACCGGGCAUAUAACUUUUUCCAUAAUUUAUAUCGGUACACAAGUACACAUGACAUGGCAAAAAAUUUAAAACCUUGGUAUGCCAAUUUAUAACACAAAUCCAGAUUGUACAAGAAUAAUAUAUAUCAUGAUUGAGACGUUCAUGCUAUGAGUGCCCGAUAGUGCAACUAUAAACACAAAGCAUGAAAGGUACGAACAAAAUGUUUGUGAAAAGGGAAAGGAGGGUGUAAAUUUUUGUAAAUAGAGAUUGGCCCUCCCCAUAUUUUAUAGCUCUUAAAUUUUUGUAAUUUAUUUUAUCAAAUAUAAAAAACUACCCCGUCAAAUCAGCCAAACUGCCCCCCGUUAACAGCCGUGGUGGUCUGUCAGUCAGUCAUAAUAGAAAGGCACCACGAGUCACAAGUCAUUUUUGUCGUCUCGUGUGACUCAGCAAGAAAGGGUAAAGAAGAAAGUACUGAACCAUUUCUUCUUUUUUUAAUUGCCCUUUGACCCAUUUCACCCUCCUCUCUCCACUACUUUACCCUCCAAUUAUGCCAAGUCACCCCCACCCCCACCCACUCCCACUCCCACUCCCACUCCCACUUACUUUCACCACCUCAGUAACUCUCUGAAACAUGUACUGAUGUAAAUCUUACCCACCUCCUUCAAAAAAAUAACAAAUAUUUUAACUUUUGUUUUAUCAUAUUUUUUAAAAUUAAUUUUAAAUUAUUACGCAUGUAAACUUUGAUUGUAGUCAUGGAUUAAACCAGUUAAUUAAGGCAAUGAGCCCGCAAUCUUCUUCUCAUAAAAUUUCCUCGUUUGUAUAUAAAAAAAUCAAUUAAGAUGUAAUUAAUAUAUCUAAAUUGUCUGUUAGUUAGAAGAGUCAUACUGGUUAUCAGUUAGUUUUUGUUCUUAAUGUCAUUGGACUAGAUUUAAAGAAAUUAUGGUAGUUGAGAGGGGUUAUAGAAAUGUUAUUUUCGAGAGUUAUUCUCCACAGAUCGUUUCAGCUUUUCAAAUGACUCAAGUAAUUGGAGAAAUUUUACCCAUGUUUGUCAUAUUGUUAUUGAAAUGGCUUCCUUUACAGAAUAUGUCCUUCGUUAUGUUAUUUUUAUUAAUCUAAUAAUAUUCAAUCGUCUUUUUAUAACAUAAAAAAAGAAAAACUACGAGAAUUAAACUUUGUCAGUAAUUGUUAUUUUACCAAAAAAGGUAAGCUCUUAGGAAAUCGUUUUUGCAGCUAGCGCAUUAUUAAGGAUCUAAUGUAGAUACAUCUUUAAUAAAACAAUAUUAAGAGACGAGAUACGAAUUAAGACUUUGAACGGAAUAAUAAAUGCUCUUAAUCACGAAAGCUGCAAAUUUAACAAAAAUUUAAUGCAAGUUGAUUAUUGGUUAGAUUGAGAUUUGAGAGGCAUUUUGAGUUCCAAAUAAUUCAAUAAGUCAGUGACAUGCAUUUGAGGGUUCUGUCAAAAAUUGAUAAAGAAUGUGGUCCAAACCCAAAACCACUUGGUGAUGAGGUGGCAAUAGAAGAGGAGGAAAGGAUGUAUGUAGUGGCAAAAGUUGGUAAAAUACGUACAAAUGCAUAUCUGUGGGCAAAAUACAUUAUUGCAUACAUACAUUGUUUUGUUCUAGAGAGAGAAAUAGAGGUCAUAGAGAGAGAGAGACUGAGGAGUAUUUCAGAAGCUCAUUGCUUCGCUGAUUUUGAGGCACCAAAUAGAGAGAGAGAAAGGAGUGCAGAACAAGUUUCACAUAGAGACACCGCUUGUGACAAACAAAAAAACUUUCUUAUUUUUACUACAUUUGGGCUUCUUUCCCUCAGAAAACCAUAUAUCUCUCUGAAAUUUCCAGAGCUGAAAGGAGAGAGCUAGAACCCAGGUGGGUUUUUCUUCUUUUAUGUCAUUGUUAUCUGUGUGACUCAUUCUUUUACAAUCCAAUGUUGGGUUCUUCAAGGAUCAUCCUUUUGUUAUAUUUUUCUCUUCUUCUUUUUUUUUUUUUUCUGGGUUUUGCGCGAUUGAGCUAAAAGAUUCAAGCUUUUAGUGUUCUUGGGCAUUGAUCGUCUUCUUAUGCAUGUUUAAUCGGCUUUUAAGGGUUUUCUCUGUACUUUCUUGGGAUUUUUUUUUAUCUGGGUUUUAUCUGUUGUAUAUUAUUAAGUUGAUUUAUUUAUUUAUUAUUUGCUAAUGCUUUAAUGAUAUUCAGGGAUUGAACCCCUCUUUGCCUCUACAUUUUAGUUUUACCAAGGAGGCUAUUUUCCUCGACCUUACAUUUGAUUAGACAUUUCUCUGUCAUUUCAGACUUCCUUUAAUGCUCUAAUCGACCCAAAAUAGGAAAAAAAAAUCUUAUAAUAUGUUUUUUUGGAUGAUCCAAAACCACUAGGCAAAAAAUUAUUCAUCUCAAUCUUUUAAAGCAUCAGGUUCUCUGUGUAUCUGAGAGGUUUAAUCAUAUUUCAUAUAUUUUCUUUUGCCCAAUGCAGCUCAUGGAUUACGCCGAUGAUACUCUUUUCUUGAUGACUAUCAACUGUAUUAACUUCUGAAUAUGGUAAAAUAGUUAUUGAUUUAAACCUUGUUGAUUUUUGGUACAGAAAAGGGGGGCUUUUGGUUCCCAAAAUUGGGAUAGUUGAGAUAAUGCUGAGGAAGAGAAGCAGGUCAAUUCAGAAGGAUCAACACCAAAUGGGUCAUUUGCCAAUUGCUGAUGCUGGGUCUGAUGUUUUGGGACACAAUCCCAAAAGCAACUCUUUUUUCAGUGUUCCUGGUCUGUUUGUGGGGUUGAGUUCUAAGGGUUUAAUAGAUUCUGAUUCAGUUAGGAGCCCAACUUCUCCUCUAGAUUUUAGGGUGUUUUCAAAUUUGGGCAACCCCUUUAGGUCCCCACGGUCCAACAGUGAUGGGCAGCAGAGGAGCUGGGGUAGCAGUAAAGUAGGCUUGAGCAUCAUAGAUUCUUUUGAUGAUGAUGUGAAGUUUUCUGGGAAAGUCCCUCGUUCAUCAGAGAGUAAGAACAUUCUUUUUGGACCUGGAAUGAGGAUUAAAACCCCAGAUUCUCAGUCCAAUACCAAUUCUUUUGCUUCACCUAAAUCUCUACCUAAGAACUAUGCAGUUUUCCCUCAUUCCAAAAUCAAAUCUCCUCUAGAGAAGGGUAGUUCUGAUGUUCUUUUUGAAAUUGGAGAAUCCCCAACAGAGCCUGAGUCAUUUGGAAAAAUCCGGUCCUGUUCACUGGAUUCUGGUAGGGCAUUUUCAACCCUAUCAGGUUUAAGCAACCUUAACCCUAACUCCACUUCUGGAAAUUUUUGUAUGGGAAGUUUAACCACCCAACCAUUUAUUGGAGGGAGCCCAAAUUUAGCCACCCAAAUGAAUACUGGAUCUAUUGGGUCUAGCAAUGGGUUAGUUGGGUCUCUCUCAGCUAGUGAGAUUGAGCUUUCUGAGGAUUAUACUUGUGUAAUUUCUCAUGGUGCCAAUCCCAAAAAAACUCAUAUCUUUGGUGACUGCAUUUUGGGAUGUCACUCUAAUGACUUGAGCAAUUUUGGUAAGAAUGAGGGAAAGGAAAUUGGAUUUGCCCGCCCGGGCACGAGCUUGGGGAAUUUUGUCCAGUACCCCUCAAACAAUUUCUUGAGCUUUUGCUACUAUUGUAACAAGAAAUUGGAAGAGGGGAAAGACAUCUACAUAUACAGGUACAGUUUAUGAAACAGACAUAUCUACUGGCCAUGUUAUGAUCUGCAAAGCAUUUUGUAGAGGAAUUGGAAAUACUUAAUAACAUUUGAUUUCUUUCAGGGGUGAGAAAGCAUUUUGCAGUUUGAGUUGCCGCUCUGAGGAGAUUUUAAUUGAUGAGGAAUUGGAAAAAUGCAAUGACCAGUCUUCUGAGAAACCUCUUGAGUCAGAUGAGGAACUUUUUGAAACUGGCAUCAUUGCUGAUAAGUAAGAGACACUUCUCUUCUGCAGCCACCGUGCCCAUGAUUGAUGAGCCCGUCGCAGACGCAGCUGAUCAUCUGUUAACAAAGAGCUGUUUGUGUGCAUCGCUUGGCAGCCAUGGAUGAUCGUUUUGUAAAUUCACUCGUUUGUUAACUGUGUUUCAGCUUUCAUGGUCUUGGUGAAUGUUGGUUUCAGCUCAACUAGUUUUGCUUUCCAUAAAAUCAGACAUUGAUGAUGUAUGCCAUCAAAGUGCUAUUUCUUUGUAAUUCAUGUAGAAGGGUGAUAAGCCGACUUUUUUGGCUCCCUACUUCAAGUCUCUGUUGCGACCGGAGUUGCUGUGUAAUCUUGAACCAGUUUUUGACUGAAUAUAAAGUACUAUUACAUAUACAACUUCUUGUCUUUCCCUUCAUCUUUAACAUUUUGAUUAAUUUUGUAAAUUUUUAGAGUUUGGAUGAAGAUGAAAAACUAUUGAACAUAGGUUGCAAAUUAUGAUCUGAAUUCACCAAUAAUCUUUACAAGAGCAAUUUCCAUCUACAAACCGAUGGUAUCUGUAAUUAUCCCUGAUAACAAUUUCUCUGUUGUAGGCCUGAGAUAUUAGUUUCAUGGCUGAAUGGCAAUCUCUACAAAUCUGCAGAUUAUUAACUACACGGAUAGGAGUUCUUGGGGGGUUGUUUAAAAGACCAAAAGCAACAGCCAAUCUUUCACUAUGAUGAGAUGAUGUUUCUACUAGGUCCUGUUUUUGCAAUCUACGCUUUAUCUCAUCCAACAUAGCAUAAAUUUCAGCAGAUUGAGGGUUUGAGAAAUCCCAAGCAGUAAAUUCAUGCACAGCUCCAUUUUGUUCUAUUAGACUACAUCCUGGUUGCUUCCUCACUCCUAGUUCAUGCAACUUCUUUCUUGCCCAGCUCACAUCAUCCCACCUACCAGCUUUUGCAUAUAUAUUUGAAAUAAGAGCAUAAGCAGCAUCGUUUAGGGGGUCUAUCUUUAUGAGCUCUUGAAAUACUUUUUCUGCCAAUUCUAGAUUCUGAUGGCUUCCACAUGCUCUCAACAAGGAACUCCAUAUAGAGAUAUCUGGUUUGAUAGGCAUGCUUUCAAUAAACCUCACUGCCUGGUCUAAGCGUCCGGCUCGACCUAGGAGAUCAACCAUACACCCAUAGUGCUGGAUCUUAGGAACAAUACUGUAGACACUACUCAUCUUGUUGAAGUAUGUGUACCCUUCAUUGACUAAGCCUCCAUGGCUACAAGCAGAUAGAAGAGCUACGAAAGUGACAUGAUCUGGCUUUAUUGCUAGAGCUUCCAUUUCUGAGUAGAGAUCAAUAGCUUUCUGGGCUUGCCCUUCCAUGGCACGUGCUGCUAUCAUAGCGGUCCACACAAACACAUUUUUUUCAGUCAUAUCCGAGAAUAUCUCAUAGGCUUGUUCAAUGCUUCCACACUUUCCAUACAUGUCAAUCAAAGCAGUUCCCAACAUAAUAUCCAACUCAAUAUGAUUCUUUUUUAUGUAAACAUGCACCCAAAUGCCAUAAUUCAGGGCUGCAACACUAGCACAGGAAGACAGAACACUGACUAAUGUGAUCUUGUUCGGCUGAACAUUUGAACUCUGCAUUGCACGAAAUAACUCAAACACUUCUCCGAAUCGAUGAGAUAUGGAAUAACAGUUGAUCAUGGUGUUCCAAGAAAUCACAUCCUUCUCAGGAAUCUCAUUGAAGAAGAGUCUAGCCUUCUUAAUAUCUCCACUUCUGCAGAACCCAUCCAACAUCGAAUUCCAAGACACAACACUCUUGCAAGGCAACUGCUCAAAAACUAAGCAAGCCUCAGCCAGUUUUUCACAUUUGGCAUACAAGUCUAUCAGAGCAUUCCCAAGAAACCCUUCAACAUUCAUUCCAUAUUUGAAAAUCAGACUGUGAACGGAUUUGCCUAACUUGCAAUCUCCCACAUGAGCACAUGCUGAAAGUACCGUAACCAAAAGAACCUCAUCAAGGCUCAAAUAUGUUUUUCUCAUUUGCCUGAAUAACUCCAGACUUUCAUAACAGUAACCUCCUUGAACAUAACCUGAAAUCAUCGUCAUCCAUGAAAUCAAGUUCCUCUCUGUCAUCUGGUCAAACAGGCACCUAGCGGCAUGUAUCUCAUUAGAUUUUACAUACCCACCAACCAUAAUAGUCCCCAAAACAACAUCAAUAUCAGGCUUGCAUCUACCCACAAGCUCAAGUGCCUUAUCCAUUUUCCCACACUUAACAUACAUAUCCACCACACAAUUCAACAGAUUCCCACCAAUCUCCAAUUCAUUUUCCUCAAUAUACUGGUGCAACUUCUCCCCCAUUUCCAAAUCCCUGAGCUUCGUACAAGCCGAAACUAAGCUCAGCAUGGUAAUUUCAUCUGGUUCAACUUCUUCAUUAGUCUGCAUUUCCAGAAAUAGAUUCAAAGCCUCGUAAAGCAUUCCCUUAUGGACAUUGCAUGAUAUCAUGGUGUUCCAACUAAUCACAUCUCUCUGAGGUAAUAUCUCAAACAUUUUGCGCACUUCAUCCAAUUUCCCACAUUUCGAAUACAAACCCAUCAAAUUGUUAAUCAAAGACAUAUUAUCCCCCAACCCAAUUUUCAAAAUCCGGCCUUGGAUCUCAGUCCCCUGUUGAAUGGCCAAAAGUCUAGAACAAGCAUGAAUCAAGAAGUGGAAAGUAGAUGCAUCCAGAGGCACACCUUGAGUGACCAUGUUAUAGUAAGUUGAAAGCACAUCUCCAAAAGAACCAUUUUUGAGUCUGUUUUCCAUAAGGGUGUUCCAAAUAAUGGUCUCUGGCUGAUGGGUUUGACUGAAAACUAGUCGAGCAUAAUCAAAGUCUUUGAUGGUGAUGAAGAACCAGAGAACCUGGCUGGCGGUGAAGGGGUCGUGGAUGAGGUUUGUGGUGACCAAACGGGCAUGGAUCGGUGCAAAUUCUCUGAGGUUUGAACAGGAUUUCAACAAGGAGAUGAUGCAGUUUGUUCUUGGAACUCGAUUAUAGACUUUAUUUUUGGUUGGUUUUUGUGUGGAGAGAGACAGGCUUGAGAGAAUGGCAGGAAGGGCUGCGGCCAUUUUGGAAUAUUUGGCACUUGGUUCCCUCCAAAUUUCAUUUUGUAGCAACUGGUAACUUUAUGGAUAAGAUUUUAUUUUCCAUAAUUCGUUUCAAGCUCUUCAUUUGGAUGAUAUUUAUUAAUUAGGACUUCGAAUUAUUUUGUUCAAGUUAGCAACUGAGCUAGACAGCAAUAGCAGUGAGACAAGCACCAGCAGAAAUGCUUUGUCCUAAUCUUACAGUAGAAAAUGUUCAUCAGAAUUCCUCUGAAAAUGCUGUACUGUCAGGCACCUCUUUUCUUGUCUUUUCAUCUUCUUUAAUUCAAAUAACAAUCAUCUUCUUCAUAGUGAGGAAAACCUGCAGGCCAACGCCCUCAUCAAUUUCCAAAUUCUAUAACCACUACACGAAUCAGAUUAGUUUAUAGGAAAACCAUGGUCAAUGACCCAGCUGUACGAGUUGAAUGCAUAAAACUGAGCCUUAAAAGGGGUACGAUUGUCUUUUUCCCCAUGAACUCGUGCCUCUUCCAAAUCAACUCCCUCCACUUUGUCUCAAGCAUGUCAACGUUCUUAAUACCCACCCACUCCUCCAUCCACAGAGACAGGUGAACCGAAGCUCAGGGGCGGUGCCUUUGCAGGAGUAGAUACCAUUUGAAUGCAUUUGCCGGAGUGGGGGAUACUGUUCGAAUAACCAAACGCAAUUGAGAAUGAAGAGAGGAUUACAGAGGAAAACAAGAGAUCAUCCAACCAGAUGAUAAAUCGAGAAAUCAUCAUGGCUACUCUUGGCUUAAUUACAAGGUGAAACCACACAUACAGAAGUAAAUAAAUAAAUAGAUGAGGAAAAGAAACGCAGAAACAAAAAGCGAAUCGCAACGGUGCAUUCGGCCACAGGUUUCCAACAGAGGACAAUCGCAGGACCACAAUUCCCUCUGUCACUGAUACAGCCAGGUGGUCAAGAGUGUACGGAGCCCUUUGUUGCGAGUCUUGUGACACACGUAGCUGCACAAUAAUAGCCAAAGCCAAAAUCAAUUCUGAUGCAACCAUAGCCAACUAGCUCAGCCUCUCGUUUGGCGAGUGUUGUAGGAUUUACAGUUCAGGCAUUUCUGGGCCACAACAUGGUACUGCACUUGUGAGCUUUUCCCGCAGUCGUUGCAGAGGAUCCAGACCUGUUGAAGCGAAUCACGAAAUAAGAAUGACUUCUAACCACACAUUGUACACUUGGAAAGUGUGUAGAGAGAGGAGAGAGAGAGUACCAAUUUGUUUUUAUAUGGUUCAGGCAUUGGUGUAGCUGCAAUCUCCAUGUCAUAUUUCUCCCAUACCUUGGACAUAUCACAAACUGAUUUGGAGCAAAGAGGGCACGCAUAUCUGUCAUAAAGUAUGAUCAACCGGCGAAUUAGAUAAUUCUACUCAACUAGCCAAAUAAAAGGAAUCAAAAUCACAUAGCGGCCAGGCACUUACUGAUAAUGCUCCCUCAUCUCUUUUAAGCAAUCCUUGUGAAUAGUGUGUCCACACAGCAUCACCGUAACAUCAUUUGUUGAUUCAAAUAAGAACUGCAGAUCACCAGGUAUGUUAUACACCAGUAAGGCAGGCAUCAAUAACCCCAAAACAACAAACUAAAUAUUUGUUGUAAGAAUUUGUAACUGCUAGUCUUACCUCAAAGCAAACAGGGCAGUCGUGAUGCAUUGCUCCCUCCACACAAGGGUGGCUGUUUUUUAACAUAAUUGAGUAGCAGCAGCCUAACAAGAAGAUAAUAACAUCAGUCAUGGUACAAUAUAAUACACAGGAUGCUUAGUUUCUUUGGAGAAAAACAAGCACACAUUGCUUACCACACUUGUAGCAGUGGAAGAAAUUCUCACGCCCUCCAAUUCUGUCACAAAUAGUGCACUAUCGAGUCAAACACUAAAGAAUUAAAGCUCAACAAGACAUAAACACAACACAACAAAGAAAGAAGUGAAGGCAGACAAGCAGAAAGUGCAGCUGAGCCAGAAAAAAACUGAAACAUGGAAGAAUAUUUUCUCUAGUGAAUAGAAAGAUGGAUGUCCCCUAUCUUGUUCAGUGCUAAACAAAUAAUACCAAAAGGAGAUUACCAAAACAUCUUUGCACACAGCCUUAACAAGGACAAGAGAAUCUUACCUGCAAAUUCCACAUCCAUUGCAGUGGUACUGUCUCUUAGAUGUCUGAAAAGAAGGCAAAUAGGAUUAGCUUGUUACACAAGCUGAUUACUUGAAAGAAAGUAUCAUGAACUUCCAUGGCAAACUCACAUAAAAAUCCUGACAUAUAACGUAGAACAGAAUUAAAGAAAGUCGAGCACUCACAUCAUCAUCAAAUAGCUUGCAAGUUCCACAGAAAUAUUUCCCCAUGCAUACACCACAGUUAACACAAACUUGUCCAACCUGGUAAUGAAAGCAACCAACAUGAUACUACAGAAACUUGCAAGCAUGUCUUAGAAUUAAAGAUUUGUCUUAAUUAUAGAAUCGAGAAAACAUCUUAAGUUCAGCUAAUGCAUAAUGCAUCAACAAUAUCCACUAUAUCCUAAUUAUUAACAAAUUAAUUACUAGAAUACUGACGUCAAACACAACCCUAUCUCACAAGUUUAAUGACUUAAUACAAAAUCCAAAUAAAUAAAUAAGUAAAUAAAUCUGUCAAUAAAACAAAACUCACCUCUUGCUCAGUGCCACAAAGUGAACAUAUCACCUGAAGUAAAAUGCAGGUAUUUUGUCAGCUUACGAAGCAGAACAAUAUAAAUUAACUAUUAAAAUUCAAACAACGACAGGAGAAGAUAUACACCAACUCAUACAUGGAUUACCUGUUUGACUUGAUGACGUGGUAUGUCAUGCCUAUGCUUCUGAUCGACAUUGAUAUUGUUCUGUACACCAAUAUGAAAUUCAAUACAAGUUGGCACAACUCAAAAAAGAAUUAUCAAUAAAAACAUAAGAAAGGAAGAAUUAUUCCUACUGGAAUAUUCUCUCAAAUUGUACAAAGUGAAUACUCACCUUUGCUUCAUUAUGACAAUGGCGACAAUCAAAAAUCUCAUUGCAGCAAGGAGCUCUAAUGCGGCACCUUCGCCUGUAGUGUGAACAACUGCAGAAGAAGAAAAGGAAACCAAUAUCAUAAUGUUUCUUCGUGACAGGGGAGGGAAUGAAACAAGCAGAGUGAUGAAUAAGAACAUUACCCAUACUCCAUGUGUCCUCUCUCCAACAAUUCAGUGGCCUUUCCAGUAUCCCUUGAUUCUACUUUUGAUUCUACAGUGAGCAUGCACGAUAGAUUCAAAUGGGCAUCCUCCAUUUUGUUCUGUCUAACCAUUCUAUGUUGCUUAUCUCCAAAUUGAUAUGAUAAUAUUUAGAAGCUUGCAGAAGGCCUAAAGCACCUGCAUGUACAAAAAUAUUUAGCAACAAUGGUUAAUCCUCAGGGGCAUAUUAGUCACCCGAUCAAGCCAGGCAAACACCCCAUGAAACUCUGCUUUCUUCUAUAAUGCUGCAGACAUUUGAAAUCAGCAACAACAAAAUCCAAGCAAGGUUGAACAGCUCCAAUCAGCAUUUCUCCAAGAGGAGGAUUCAUCAAAACAAGUAGAUCUAUAAGAAUCCCAAACAAUAACUACAAUGCAGCGCUGGGGAACUCCAGAGCUUCCAUCUGUUGAAAGUAAGCGAUAACAUUGCAUCACUUGAUUCCUUGAAGAAGUCCCAGAACCAAAUCCAACUAUACUGGGCACGACGAAUUGACACCCCAACCUAUGGUAAAAGCAAUAUAUCACACAAUCAAAUGCGUUUUAAAAUGUUUGUAACAAAAUAGGGGAAAGAGUGCGAGAGAUGGAGAAAUGUGUUGUGUUGGUUGUCCAUAGAAGACAGGCCUACCUUAAAUGGAAAUUAUCCACCAUGUCUGCUUCGAGUACUGAACUUACCCAAUAGGCAAAAUCUUAAAAACUCUAUACCGUCAGACUUUGAGUGUUACUGCUUGAAACUGGUGGAGUUCUCUCAUCAUCUAUAUAGUUGAGUUAUGAACUACAAAACAAUCACAACUUUCAUCUCUUGAUUUCCUUUAGAGAAAAUUAACUCUCCUUCAAGGACCACGGCACCCAUGCAAGGCUAAGUCCCUAACCAGAUAAGUGGAGCACCAUUCUUGUCAUUCUUCUCUACUAAACUACUUACAACUUGACGGGUUUGAAUAACAGGUUUAGGGAUGAAAUGAACAAUGUACUUGGAGUAUGAGCUUUGAAACUCAUAAUCAAGAGCAGACAAAUGCUCAGAUUAGCACAAGGGGGCAGAUAAGACAACUCAGAAAAUGAUGUUUCCGCAACAAAGAGUUUCAGUAUGGAAUAUUCACAAUGGGGUAGUACACGGAUAUAGGCGCCAAGAAAGAGGAGACCACAAGAUCUAACUAGAAAUAUACGCUGACAUCUUCGGAUGGAUAUGUGAAGAACCAUAUUUACUGGUAAGACGUUCAAACCCCUCAAUCAGAACCCUGAUAAACCAGCAUAUACACUCUGGAGUUGGAAAUUUCACCUCUGGUACAGAUACAACAGCCCUGCAGAAUACUGCCGAAACUCAAUAUUAACAUAAAAGAAAAACCCAAAGGAAUAAGCCCCCCCCGUAUGCUGCCCUAUCUUUCAAUGCAACCCAAUUAAGAACAAAGAAAAUUAUCUUAUGUAAUUUGUUAAAGCAGUCUCCUUAAAUUUUAACAAAUAUCCACAAGCCUCAAGCUGCAACCAAGCCGUAGACUCAACACAAGCUGUAAUGUUUUCCCGUCCUCAGUAACAGAAACUGAAAAGGCCGAUAAUUAAUAUCAGAAAAUAUAUCAGGUAAUACUUUCUUUUAUCAUUUGCAUUAUGAAAUCCAGAACUGGAAUCCUGAAAUAUUCCACUUGCACAGGUAGUUAACACCCCAAAACACUGAAGCCCUAUACUUUAAAGGCCCUAACGGUUAUCUAUAACGAGCUACUAUAGCUCAGUACCUGAAACAAAGGUCCAGAGGAAGGCCCCACAACAUUGACCUUGGUGUUUCUGGAUGAACAAGGGCUGCUUCAGAAACAAGAGGCUGAGGUACACCAAACGAGAUGCAUGGGCCAUAAAGAGGGGAUGAUGGCUGACAAUACUCACAACUUCACACGCCUAUUUCAGAAGCUUAUAUAGAACAACCACAACAAAAGGACCAAAUUGCCAUUCAUUUCACCCCACAAGCAUGAACUCUAUUUGCUAUCCAAUUACUAUAAAUCCUCGUCCAAAUAAAAAAAAGACCUACUAUAACCCAGUCACAUCACGUAUCCAUUUGGGUAUGUUAUUAUUCAACAGUUGGCUGAAAUCAAGUGGCAAGUAAUAGAGAGAUUUCACCGCCCUAAUUUUGUUUCUAGUUUCUCAACCAAAAAAAGUGCACCGUCAGUAAAAAGAAACAAAAAAGACCUUGUUGAGUAGAAUCACCUAUGAUACAAAACAAAUGCAUCAUGUUCCACAGCUACCCAUUUUCUAUUUUCCUCCUCUCCCUCUGUAAUACUAAUGAUGAAUCCACAAAUAAACGAAAUGUAUAAAUUACAAACAAAGAGUUAGACGUGGCUUCUUUCCCAAGGAAAACCAAUGGUCUCACAUAGCAUUUCAUCCUGGACAUAAAUUUCAUGCACGGAAAAGAUUAUCUACCAGAAGAAGUAACCAAGGCAGCCAUCACAUUUCUUUCAAAAAUUAGCUAAACCAAACAUAUCGAUUAUCGUCAUCAUCAUCAUCAGCAGCAACAACCAAAUUCGUCACACUCAACCAGUCAACAAUCAUCACAAAACCAACAACACAAAUUCAAACAGCACAAAAUAGAACAUAAAACCAUUCACCAAAUCAAAUCCACAGCAAUCCACGCAAUGCAUGAUGAACAAUACAGCAACAGAAAAAUGAAGCAUAAACACAAUUCAUUGAAAAUACGUUACUGCGAAAUCAAAAGCUCAGCAUUAACACCAUAACAUAUCACACACACCUAACGCUUAAGCACACAAACACAAACACACAGAAUUAAAAAACUGCAGCACCAAAUUACCUACGAUGUGAACAAUUAACGCAAAAUUAAAGCCAUUCCAAUCAAAACAGACUACUAAUUAUAUGGAUUUCUUAAAGAAUAACGAACUUUCAAUCGGGAACGACAAGCGGUGCAGUCGCCGAUCCGAAUCCGAUAACAAACGGCGGGAUCCUCUUGACAAUCCGGAGCUCCGGCUCGCCUUUAGAAACUAUGUGCGUGUGUGUACGUGAGAGAGAGAGGGAGAGAGAUACCGAUGUACAGAGUGCAGAGACGAAGAUGAGAGAGAGAAUUCGAAACGAAGCCGAAUUUAUAGCCUCCCUGAAGAUAUGAUCGUUUCCAGAGCCUUCGAAAACGAAAGCGUCAGGUCCACCGGUUUCUUUCUGUUGCUUCUCAAUUGACAGCUUGUGCAGUAAAUUGCCUGAAAAUAUCUCCGUUUUUUCUAAAUUAAGAUAAUCAGAUUUUAUCCGGAGCACUCGCGCCCAUUGUAUAACUGUGCGUAGCGUAAAUCUGGCGGUGUGGAUAUCUUGGUAUUAAAUCGGACGGGUCCAAAGAGAGAGAGUAUGUUAAUUAACGUGCAUACACAUGUAUUAGAAACCUUCGCUUUAAAUGUCGGUGACGUUGAAUAGUAUUAUGUUUCUUUCUUCUCGUUAGGAGAACUUGACCAUUCAACGGUCAUGAUCGAAGCGUACACGUCUGGUCUGGAAUUUAGAUUGAGCUAUAGCGCAACGACGACACGUGUUACUUAAAUUGGUCAAAAGUUCUGAUUGCAUGCCAAGUGUUAAGGCUGACGUGGAUGGAUUUGAUGAUAUUUAAAAAAAUAGUAAUUAAUUUAAGAAAAUCUCCAAAUUGAUGUUUAUCCAAUAAAAGGAAUAUUAUAUAGCAUUGAUUUGUAUAACUCCAUUAGACAUCGUGACAUGUUGGUGAGAUAAGUGAUCAUGCGAAUUGGGAGACCAUUAUGAUUUAGAACAUUUUAUGAUUUUAAGAAACUUUUUUGAACCAUUAGAUUAAUAUUUUCUUUGGACUCUUGUGGUCCAAGAGAUCAGGACUGUAAUGUUAUAAUAUUUAUUUCUCAUAGGAAUGCCAAGUUUCUUGGAAAUCAUUCUAAGCUCACCUUGACUUGCUCAACUGGAUCCAAACGUGAAUCCCUUUGAUGAAUUUCAAUUAUAUAUUUUGUGUUCCGUCUAGCUCAUCGUUGUGAAAUCAAAUAUACGAUUACAUGACCUAAUAUAGUUUUUUUAUUUUUUUAUUUUUAACAGUAAGAUUUGAAUUCAAGACUUCUAACUUUCUCAAUCGAUCUCAAUGCCUUAUGAAUGUGAAAUACUUUAAACUCAUUACACAUUGCGUCUAUUUGUUUUUUCAAGAAGAUGUGUAUUUUAUGGGUCUGUCAUGGUAUUGUGUUUAUAUUAUAAUAUGAAAUGAUCCUGGUAGUAUGAUUUGUAACUCAAUUUGAAACCCAAUAUUCUUCUAAAUUUUCAAUAUAACUAAAUUCAAAAUGAAAGACAAGUCCCAUUAACUUUGUGAUAGGUAGUAAAGAUAUGUUUCAAUCCAAUUCAAUUUGAGAUAUGUGAAAAUUGAAGUUAGAAAAGAAAACGUUAGGAAAUGAUAGUUACACUAAAAAAAUUGUUUGCGAGUAGAGUUACUUAUACUAACACUCCCUAAGGUUUUCAACUUUUUCACAAAACUCCUUAAGUUUUAGAAAUUACAUGAACACUCCAUGAGGUUUUAAAUUGUUUUCACAAAACUCAUUUUCAUUCAUUUUCCAUCCAAAGAUUGAUGAUUUUAUACAAAAAAUUCUCUAAAUGUCGAAGUAGGCCUUUGAGAUUAGAUUGCGUAUACUUCAUUAAGGUUAAUUUUGUCAUUUGUAUAUGUUAUUUUUAAUGAAAUCAUCAAUUUUUGAACAAACAAUCAACGAAAAUGGGUUUUAUAAAAACAAACUAAAACCUCAGGGGUGUUCAUGUAAUUUUUGAGACACGAGGGGGUUUUGUACAAACACAAAAAACCUCAGGGGGUGUUGAUAUAAAUAACUCUUGCGAGUAUGGAUAACUAACUUUAACUCAGUUGAUUAUUAGCCGUAUGUAGGUCUAAUAUGCGUAGUCAAAUUCUUAAUUAUGUCUCACUAAGGGUCUUUUACUAUCCCUCUUAAAAUUCUCUUAUAUCUGCAACUAACACUAACUAACUCAGUUGAUUACAUGCGUGUGGACAAUUAUCAGCCGUAUGUAGGUCUAAUAUGCGUAGUCAAAUUCUUAAUUAUGUCUCACUAAGGUGUCUUCUACUAUCCCUCUUAAAAUUCUAUUAUAUCUACAGCUAACACUAACUUUAAGUCAGACGUGCGUGUGAACAAUUAUCAACCGCAUAUAGGUCUAAUACGCGUAAUCAAAUUCUUAAUUAUGUCUCACUAAGGGUCCUUUACUAUCCCUCUUAAAAUUCUCUUAUAUCUGCAACUAACACCCUCAGGCCCCUAAAUUGGUGUGAAAAACUUGAUCAAGUCCAAGAUGAGAGAGUUAGAAUCGGAACCGUCCCAGAAAAAAACGGUGUUUCCCUUUGACUGGUUCCAUUUUAUACAGAUGUAAUAAGAAUCAUGCAUUCAUCGGUUCCAGCAAAAUCUCAACGUCCCUACCUGCCACUCCUCUGACAUACUUGUCUUGCACAGUGAACACAAUUGUUAUACACAAAGUUUUACAAAAACUCAGUGGCUCUGAGCUUUUACUGUGGAUUUUGAUCAUUUUCCCUCCCCAAAAUCUUCUCCUUUUCUCUCUUAAAAUGCUGAGCAAACCAAAACCAAGAAAUUGAAACCCCAUAGAUGUGAUCUCUUGUAUGUGAUGAAGAGAGAAAUUCAACACAUUUUUCUACCCUCUACUUUCUUGAUACUGAUCCUUUCCCUUGGCUCCACUGCCCAAAACCCUAAUGCAGGCCUGAGAGAGUUAAAACUUUCUCAUAUUAAUCAGAGGCAGCUCUUGUUCUACACUGACCAAGAUGGGUCAAGAGGGGAGCUUGUGGCAGUCCCAUCCUCCCUUGUUUUUCACAACCCAAGACUCAGGAGUGCCUACGUUGCCCUCCAGGCAUGGAAACAAGCCAUGCUCUCAGACCCUCUGGGCCAAACAUCCAACUGGGUUGGAUCCAAUGUCUGCAGCUACACUGGAGUCUUCUGCUCCCGAGCCCUAGAUGACCCGUCAGUCGAAACUGUGGCCGGCAUUGAUCUGAACCACGGCGGCAUUGCAGGGUACCUCCCUGAAGAGCUGGGUCUGCUCUCAGAUAUUGCAUUGUUCCACAUCAACUCCAAUCGGUUUUGCGGCAGUGUCCCGAAGAGUUUCAGCAAACUGAAGCUGCUUUUUGAGCUUGAUCUGAGCAACAACCGCUUUGCUGGGAAGUUCCCUCUUGUUGUUCUUCGACUGCCAAAGCUAAAAUUCCUGGACCUGCGAUUCAAUGAGUUUGAAGGUAAGGUCCCCAAGGAACUGUUUGAUAAAGAUCUAGAUGCAAUCUUCAUCAACCACAACAUGUUCUCCUUCGAAUUGCCAGAUAAUUUGGGGAACUCGCCAGUCUCAGUUAUUGUUCUUGCAAACAACAACUUCCAUGGGUGUGUGCCAGCCAGCCUUGGUAACAUGUCCAAGAAUUUGAACGAAGUGGUGCUCACAAACAACGGCUUCCACUCGUGCUUGCCAAAGGAAAUAGGGAUGCUGAAGGAUGUAACUGUGUUUGAUGUGAGCUAUAAUCGGAUUGUCGGUGAGUUGCCAGAGGCAGUGGGUGAAAUGGUGAGCUUGGAGAAGCUCAAUGUGGCUCAUAACAUGCUAAGAGGGAACAUACCUGAGAGCGUUUGUGAGCUUCAGAACCUGAGGAACUUUAGCUUUGAGCACAACUUCUUCACUAGUGAGCCACCAAUGUGUUUGAAAUUGGAGAAGUUUGAUGACAGCAAGAAUUGCUUGCGGCGUAGGCCAAAGCAGAGAACCAUGUUGCAUUGUAAAUUGGCCUUGUCUAAGGGUGUUCGUUGUAGUUCUUUUGGAUGCCGUCCUUCUGUUCCUCCCUCCCCAUCACCACCACCUCCACCACCACCAUCUCCAUCACCACCACCUCCAUCACCAUCACCACCACCUCCAUCGCCAUCACCUCCACCUCCUCCUCCUCCACCACCUCCACCUCCUCCUUUUCUAGUUCCUUCUUUUUUGGAAUUUUUGUACUUUUCUGGCAAGGUUUGUUCCUUUUAACACUUNNNNNNNNNNNNNNNNNNNNNNNNNNNNNNNNNNNNNNNNNNNNNNNNNNNNNNNNNNNNNNNNNNNNNNNNNNNNNNNNNNNNNNNNNNNNNNNNNNNNAUUAGCCAAUGUUGGUCUAGCAGCCUCAGAAGUUGCAACCCUCUAAUUCUCAUCCAUCGCCGCCUCCACCACCCAUUUAUUCUCCACCACCCGCUUCACCUUCUCCACCUCCAUCUCCGCCACCAUGUAUGAGACCUUCUCCACCUCCACCUUCACCGCCAGCUCCAGUGUAUGAUGGCCCGUUGCCACCAACUAUCGGUGUCUCCUAUGCCUCACCACCACCACCACUGUUUUAUUAGUGAUUCCUUCCAUUUCUUCUCCACCUUCCCAGACAGCUUAAGAGACUGAUACACUAGAGUGACUAAAGUCCCAUGACUUGGAAACGAAUUUCCAAAUUAAAAAUAAUUGCCACGAAUUCAUGAUCUCUACCACUGCAACCAGAGACGCAGGCAAUACAGAACAAGGUCAUCAAAUCAUGUUACAAGGUGAAGGUGAACACAAGAGGAACGAGACAGUGCAUAGUGAAGGUUUUUUCUUAAUUUUUUUAUUCAACCAAAAAAAAAAAAAACUCUAUUUAUUUACAUUGUUAUGGACUUGUCUUUAAAAGUAGAUAAUAAGUUGGAAGAUAAAGUACUAGGCUACUUGGAAUGUAAUUACAAAGCUCUCUAGAUUCUCACAUUUCUGUUAUAUUAAGAGCUUUCCCUUUGCUUAUUUUCAGAGCUAAAUGGUAAAUUAAAGCACACACUUCUACUCAAAUUGAAUACAAUAUGCAAUGCUGGAUUUCUUCCGGUCCCAAUUGAAAUCUCUUUCAACUAAAGAUCUUAGAACCAUUUAGCCAAACAAAGCUUGAAACCCUUGCAACUAAGUUCCAUCAGGUGACUAAAAUGGCCUCAAGCACAUUGAGUUCUCCAGUCAUAUUACUGGUUUAAACUGGUAAAAGGGCAAAAGGUAAAAUUCUACGUGUUGCCUUGAAACUUAAAUGGUCGACCAACCACCAAACAAAACAGUCAGGAGCGACUGAAUUCCUCCCCCAGUUUUUGUCACAUCCUCAUCUUUAAAGCGGCUCUCAUUCGCAAAGGACCCACUAGUGUAGUAGUUUGGAGUAUUUACUCCCUCAGGCAAGGUCCUGGGUUCGAGUCCUAGCAUCCGUGUUGUGUGUAUGAGUUUAAUAUGCUAUCGCCCCUUUUAAUAGGAAAGAUCCUCAAAAAAAAAAAAAAAAAAAAAAGCGGCUCUCUUUCUGCUGAUUUGUCCCAUCUGCUUGCUGUGAGAACAGACAAUUAAUGGAAAACUAACAAACUGAUAUCUAGUCCAGCAGAAAAACAAAACAAAGAAGAAAAAAAAAGGAAAAGAAAGCAAGGAUUAUAAAUGAAACGUAAAUCCUAGUUUCCUACGAAAAUAUGAACGUAAACAUUAGCCUUCUUUCUCUACCUCUUGAAGCAUUACAUGUUAAAGAAUUAUUUCAGAGUUUUUAAUGUAAAACAGUUAUAGAACUACCUGAGUCUUAAAAAGAUGAAUAUGUAAAGAGAAUCAAGGAUUUUUCUAGUUACUGAUAUUCAAGUUGGAAAUUUUUUUCUUACCUUCAACACGGUCUUCAAAAUUUUCAAAACUACACAUCACACCCUUACACCUGAUUGCUUCUUCCUGCAAACUGCACAGAGUUCACAAGUUGUGGCUAAAACUUUCUUUGAUGAACUUUUGAUAAAAAAUGGUCUUUAAAGUAUAAUUUAAAUAGCCAUUUUUUUACAGCCAACCCUGGAGAGAGGAAAUUCUUUUUCUGGAUUCUUUUCAAAUUUCAAGGUAUUGCUUACAAAUAUACCAUUUUGAAAAGUUAGGUCUCACUAUUACCUUCUACAAUGCUCUGCUUCAAUAUUUACGACUCUGAAUAAGAAAUUGUAAAAUCUGCGUUCCAUCUUUUGCUGCAGGAAGAAGAAAGUCAAGAAUCUUCAUUUUCACUUGAGAAAGGAAAAAUUCAAUGCAUAGUUUAAAUAAUAAUUGAAAUAUCAAACUACGUGAAAAGCCGAAUUUGAUUUAAAAAAUUAUUUUUCCUUGAUUUUAUUCUCAACAAACACAUGAGAAAUGAAGAAAAAGGAGAGCUGUAAUCAGAAGCAUGAAAGAUAUAAAUACCUCCAUAAUGCACGUCUGCAUCUGAGUGAAAGAGACAGGGAGAGUCAUGAAUACCAAAGCAUUUCAAAGCUCACUGAGGUACAGUCUGAACUGUACAUCAAGUCUUAACCAUGAGCCAGAUCAAAGAUCAUAACUUCAAGCCUCGUGCAUGUUUCCAUCUCCUUUUUGAUGGCCUAAUCAGUGGAGACGAGGAAAAAGUACAUUGUCUGCUACAUGAGAACUAAUCUCUGAAGGUAAAGGCUGGAGCAACCCACUAUUAGAUAAUACUUCCAAGCCUUUAAUGUCCUGUUGCAAGCGGGUUGCAUGUAAAAUGGCAUGGUCAAGAACUACAGGAUCAUCUGGGGGGUUUUGAAGAAGGGUAAGCAAGGCCUGCCGAUAAACUUGGGCAGACAAUAAUGGUCUUGCAACCUGCCGACUUUUACAUGUGAUUGCCACCUUGAUGACAUGCUUGCAGAGAUUUCCUAGCCUUGACCAAGGGCAAUCACACAAUGAGAACUCAGAACCAGGGUUCCAAAUAGUGUAUGCCAGGCUUCUGUCUGUUUGUGAGAUGACUUUUGCAUACUGGAGAUUUUGCUCAUCCAGUAUGACAUCAACAUUUAGGAUCUGCAAAGCCUGAUACCAAGCAUUUGUUGAGAAAGAUUUGUCCCUCAAGUUUUCAAAAUACCCAGUCUCUAUGCUAUAUUGGUCUAACCAAUAUGAAGAUUGAAAUUCAGUUGUAAGUGUGUGGAUUAACCAGUCAACUCUUGACCAAGAAUUAACAUAUUGUUCAUUGAAAAGCUUGGAUUUCAACCUUAGAUGAUAGGACUCGAUUGCAGCACUUGGCUCUGGACCAGCCACAGGAAGAGACCUUAUGCCAUUGGCCCACAACUCUGCACAACAAGAGCAUAUGCAAAUAUCAAUGUUUGAAAGAACAAUAUAACAAUGUUUGAAGCGGCCAUUGUGAUGGUUACAACAGCAAUCACAACCUCUAGCACAUCAACUGCAUUUUGUAACACUGAAGUUUGAAUAUUAAGAAUAUCACAUUUCAGGAUUCAUGUUUGUAAGUUAGACCACAUAGUUCACAUGUGUCACCUAACAACUAGGCUACACUAACCCUCCUCUCAAUGGGUUUGGGACCAGCUAUAUAAAGUACAAGGCAUGCAAAAUGAUAUCAAACGGAGCUUAAAGACAAAAGCCAAUACUCCAAUGAGGAGAAGACAUAGCUCAUUUGACGGAAACAGGUAUUCUGGCCUGGUAAGAGAAAAUAUGUCUUCUUUUUAUUUUAUGCAUUAAAGGUCUCAAUCAUAAAUGGGAAAAUACCUAUAUUUGGUAACCAUCGACUCUUAAAAUAAUCCAUAAAGGCACAUUGAUCAACAAAUACUUGCAUAAACUCCUCAACUGAAUCCAAAGUAUUUGGCCUUCUUGUGCAAUACAAAAGCCAGCCUAAGUGCUUAAACAUUUCUCGCUGCACAUCAAAGUUGCAGCAUGUCUUUAAAAGUCUUCUUAUCCAAGAAUGCCGAGCACGCCAGAUGCAUAAUAAGACCCGGCAUUGGAAAGCCUCUCUGCAAAUAAAGAAACAAUUGCAGCAAAAAUUCAAUUCAAUUUAUAAACGAAACUCUAAGACUAAACUACAUAGUCACACUAAUAUUAUUACCUUAUUAUAGAAAUUUCAAAGGAAGGAUCAUCCACUAAAAAGGCAUCGAGUCUCCAUCUUGGAUCCUUGGUUUGGAUUCUUUCAGCCAGUAGCCCAAUCCAUUUAUGGAUAUCUUGACUGACGAAAGACGAGGUAAUGACCCAAGCAACUGGUAUUGCAUCCCGUGAUGCGUUGAAAACAAGUAAUGUACACAAGGGAUACUGUUAAGAGAGGACAAAAACAAUAAGGAUACGAUAUCAUAAUUGUUUUGUUUAAUUCUUGAAGUCAAAAACAAUAAGGAAAAAAAAAAAACAAAAGCAUGAAAUAUCAAAUUCACAUAAGAAGCAAUCAUGAUACCUUAAGUUUCUUUAAGCCAAAUGUUGAAUGGAAAGCUAUGUAACCAUUAUGUCCAUAUUGGACCAACUGCUGCAGCUGCCAAUCUGUCUGCAUCCCCAAAACAAAUGGUUCUGAACCAGAGCUAUCUUGAAAAUAGAACACAUUCUUGCGAUGGCGUUGAACCCACAUCCUUAUACUGCAUUCAUCAUCUUCAUGCAACUCAUGAGAAGAAUUGCGAAUCACCCUUUCCAUGUUACGAACAUCAUUACGACUUAGAAAAUCAUCACGGUUAUGAGGUCCCCCAUGCCCCUCGACCAUCUCCAUGUGAUGCUGAACUAUACUGUCCAAAGGUAUUCCAACAUAAAGCAUAGACAUCACUUUCUGGCGUUGCUCCUCUGAAAUUCGUGGAGCAUACAUGGCUCUCGUUCCCAUAGCAUCCUGAUCAAGUAUACCAUGACAAGGUGAUCCUGAUUUGUCUACAUGAUUUCUCUGGUUAUAGAUGAUGAGAGCUAGGAGUGGCCGGGUAUAUAAGCGUUUUACAGUAAAAUGACAGAUGCAUCCCCUCAUCAUGUGACGCCUCCCAGGCCUGCUUCCCUUUCCGGAUGCAGGCUUUGUACUAGAACCAUCCACCAAACCAGAUUCAUUUUCUCGGUAAUCCUCAGGACCAUAAGAACACCAGUAUCUGAUGAAUAACCAUAUACAAAAUUAUGUCUCUCAAAUUUAAGUUGAAAAUCAUUUGAAUGCAUUUAAUUUAAUUGUUUAUGGAGCACAUUACAGUUACAUAUAUUCGCAAGUUUAAUUUAAUAGUUAUAUUCAUGAAUAUUAAUAAACUCUAAGUUAUGGCUAAUGAGCUUAAAUGUGAAAUGAAUUCCUAAUUUUCAAGGUGCGCAGAAACUAGUGAAUCAAGCAGUGAAACUCAGUCAAAGGUUCAAAAGGUCAAAAGGAGGUAUUUAAGACCAGAACUCCAUGAACCCCAACAAACACAGAAAAGAAAGGAAGGCCUAGUGGAUUCUGAAGAGCAAAGACAACACACAGUGUAUACUCAAGAUAGCCGUCAACCCUUGGCUUGCUGAUGCUGCCCUCAGGUCUCCUCCUUCUUGACUCAAUGCGGAAGCUAGCAGGGCAUUCUGCAUUUGAAGAUUCUCCUUUCACAAAAUCACCCACUCUAGCAAAUGGGAUUAGGGCAAUAUCAUCGCCACCUUGGCGACCGCCUUCUACUUUUACCCAUUUGAUAUGAGCCGCAGAAAACUCUGCACAUGGAGGAUCUUGUACUGGAAGGUUAAGAAUGUCCUCCAUUCUUGGAAUCUGUGAUCACAUAAAACCAAAUCAAACCUCUUCUAAUUUUUGUAGCACAAAAAUCCAAGCUAAGAUUUUGGAAUAAUUGGUCUGUGCUAAUCUCAUGCUGCCUUUUCUGCCUUAAAAAUCAAAUAAGGUUUCACUUACCAUUACAUAACACCAAGUUACCAACUUAAACAAGCAAAAUGCAAAGCUACUUGAGAUUGCAAAAUAAAAUGGUUGGAAUUUUAAGAUGACAGCACAGUAGGAACUUCAAAGAUUGCUCAGGUAAAAGAAAUUGAAUAAAAUUUACCUUGUGUUCAUGGCCCUUCAUGCUUCUCCUUCUCCACUAGCUCAAAAAGUGUAAAUUCUGAAACUUUUAUACUGCAAAUGAAUUAUCAAGUUAAGAUUUACAUAAAAACUAAAAUAAUAAUCAACAAAAAAUUCCAGAGAGUCCUGGAAAGAGGAAAACCAAGGAGCAGCUGAGAAAAAUGCAAAAAGAUCAACACAAAGAAAAUCCAUGUGAAAAAAAAAAAGAGUAAAAAAGAAAUAAGUAAAGCUAAGGAAAACAGAUAGUAAGAUUGAGGAGGGAUAUCUACCUCUAGAGGCUGCCAUUUGAAUGGAAAGCCAUGGAAGAGUGAUUUGAGGUCUUCGAAGUUUCAGUGGAGCGUUGGAGUUUUUGCCUUCUGGUGAUCACUGUGUAUCGGACAAAGCUAUUAAUUUACCAAAAUGACCUCAGUUCUUCUCUCGUUCUUUUCUUUUUGGGCUCGCAAAAUGGGUCCAACCCAAACCAUAUGCUUGGAUCAGAUGUAUGUUUGGGCCAGAUCAAAAAUAUGGGCCCAUCUUUUCUAGCCUAGCCCAGCUCAUAUGGAAAUGUUAAUUCCAGCCCAACCGAGCCUCACACUCAAAAGUUGGCUCCUACUUAUAAUAUUUCCUUUUUAGGUUUUAAAGAAGAGGGCAGUGCUUAGGGCAAUCUCCUGCACGCGCCAGGAGACUGACGAUCAUUGAUGUAAAUGAAUUUCAUAAUAGUACAUACAUAUAUUAACAGCUGAAAGUUAUUCACACGCUGGUUAGUUAUUGUCUUUAGCAUUUCUUAAAGAUAAAAGAAAGGUCCAUACAGUGAAAAGUUUUAUAAUUAUACUUGGUAGCGUCAUUAUCAUUCAUGUCAAAGUUUGAUUCUCGUUCUUCUCAUCUUUGAAAUAAAAUAUAAAAUAAAAAUUAAGGACCCGCAUGAAUGGUUGUCCAUGCAGCUCUACACCUUGUACGGCUUCCACGGCUCUAAAAAGUUUGCAUUACUUCACUACUUUUUUAAAGAGUGUUGCUAAAUGAACCCUAAAAUUAUCUUAGUACACCUUAUGAUCUGAGUAUACCCUAAUAUUUAAAUUAAAAUGUAGAAUUAACUAAGUACACCCUAUUUAACUACCAAAAUACCCCUGAUACACCCUAAUACACCACACCACCAAAUUUGUCCAAUUACAUCCCAUGGCUUUUUGCUCUGAAACUAUGAAUGCACUGGAGUUGCACCAUGGGAGGAAUUGUUGCAUUUAGCUCAUAGUCGUAGCACCAACGGCCAUAAUUUAGACUUUAUAAGUGACUAUCAUGAUCCCCACUGAGAUCUGUCUAAAAGUUGGAAGGUUUCAGACUUCCAGCAAUACUACUUGACAUUGGAUGACCAGAAUAAUGAGGAUGGAAGUCUUCAGAGGCACCGCAGUAGAAAUCAACCAUGAAAGAUGGUGCUUAUAUCCAACAGAAGACAAAACCUCCUGAUUACAACCCAACUGAUUCUCAUCAUGGUUACCAACCAAAUUAUCAGUCGAACCAAAGCUUUAUGGCAGUUGCUGAUCUUGAUUUCCAUUUCUAAUGUCCCCAUUUCCAGUUGAUGAGUGAGAGAAAUACAUAUGAGGUGCAUGAUGGGAUUUACCUAAAGGUUCUAUACUCACUUCGCCAUUGGAAGGGGAAGAUUUUGAGCAUCAUGUGAAAUUGCGAGACCUUGAAAUCUAGAGGUAUGGAAAGAUCUUUUGCAUCCCCAUAAGACGGUAUUCUAAAACAGCAAUUCCAUUUGGGGAAUUUUCAUCUUCCGAGAACAUUGGUGGGGAUGCCACCUUCACAACGUUUUCAUGUGGUCCAUUCACACAUUGACAAGGUAUCUGAACAUUUGUAACUUCACCAAAGUCUCCAAAGCAUAUGUAGAAAUCAAACCAUGAUAGGUAACAAGAAGUAGAGUUUUUCGCUUUCCUUCGAUAAAGGUUGAAUAUUGUGAGUAGAGUGUACUUAUUAAAAGUAUAUUUGUUUCACAAUUUAAUAUAUCCUUUUUGGUCAUUUUAUAUUAGGGUAAAUUAGUAAUUCAAUAAAUAGUUUGGUAGUAUGGUGUACUCAGUUAAUUUUAGGGUUCGUUUAACAGCACUCUUUUUACACCACCAUUUCUUUCCAAAAAGGGAUAAUGCGUCGUCCAGCAAAACGAAAGUAAAUCCAACAUUAUUAAUGUCCAAUAAGCAUUCCAUCCAAUUAAUCCAACACCAAUAAUUCCACCUAUAAUCCUAUUUGCUAGGAUGACCUUUUAGCACUCAAUUAGGUGAGAUAGUGAAGGUAGAUUCAAAACACCAAAAUUAACAAAUGUUCUGAUUGUGUUUGUCUCUUUGUAUGUGUGACACACUUUGAAACUUUUUGUGUGAAAUGAGUCAAAUGACGUGAUAAGAUAGGAGAAACAAAAAAAAAAAAAUUUUGAUUGUAUGCGGGUCAUUGGGUAUGAUACAAGCGGUAAUCUAAACCACUUUCAACUAUUAUAAUCCAAAAUAAAAGGAAUUCGAAUUGCUCUGUUUAACUGUUAUAACUUAUAACCCACAUAUACAUCCUAUUGCAUUUUUGUCGAUAGAAUGAGAUUGUACCCUAAAUUGCAUUUUCGUCAUUGAUCUCCAAAAAUAGGGCCCACUAAAUUUAAAAAUCGUAUAUUUAAAUAAAGAAAAUAUUCACUACCACAUAAAUCAUGUUAAGGCUUGUUAUUAUUUUAAACCUCUAAUCCCUAAUCAGAGAAGUGUGUUUAGACUGCAUGACAUGAUACAGAUGUGUGUAGACGUAUUUUUACACCUCAAUAUCUUUCAAUUUUUAUUGUACUUCAGGUUCUUUUCUUUUCUUUCAUUAGGGUUUUUAAAAAAAAUUUUAGGGUUUUUUUAAGUAGGUUAUGCACGUACAAAUAUUCUACUUGAAGUUGAUUGAAGCAAUCAUCACUGUCAUUAGGGCUUUUUAUUGCAUUAUUUAAAUACAGUUAAUAAUCAAUUUGGCUCAUCCUACUAGAACUUGAUAGAAGAAAUCAUCAUUAAUUAUAAGAUUAGUUGUGCUAACCCACCCAAGUACAACUUCAUUUUCUUUUUUUUUUUCUUUUUUUCACAAAACAAGCAGCAGAAUUUAGACUCGCAGAGGCACGCAGGCCCAAACAUAUCCAAGUAAUUUAUACUAGCCUCUCUCCACGCGCUUCUGCGCCUGCGAGAGGCUUUUUUUAAAAAAAUUUAAAUUUAUUUUAGAAUUAAAAAAGAUAAUGAAUAGUUGUGUUCUAUAAAAAUAAGAUCCAUUAUCUGAAUUUUCUUUUAAUUUUAAUUUUUUUAAUAUGAAAAUUUGUGAAUUUACCAUAUUAUCCUCAUUUAAUUAAUAAUUUUAAUUCUUAAUGUUUGCAUUAACCAAGAGCAUUUUCUAGUAUUUUGAAUGUUUCACCAUUUUCUGCCUUUUGCUUUAUAUAUAUAGAUAAUACUAAAUAUUGUAGAAGUAAAAGAAUAUUUUAAACAAAAAAGGAACGUAUACAAUGCUUCACAAAUGAUCUCUGAUAAAAGACUUUAUGCUAGCUGUUUGUUCCAACAUGAUCAUUUUGAAAAGGCAAAAAAAAAAUGAUGAAAUAGAUGUCAACCAAAAAAUUCUAACCAUUACUGAUUUGCUGGUGUAGGUUGUUCUUUGGGGUUUUUCCCCCCUUUGUCGUCAUUUUAAAAAAAAAAAAGAAAAAAAAAAGUCUAACAAAUGGUUAAUUGAUUUUCCAGUUUCGUGUAGGCCAGAGAUUUUCUUGUAGAAUGAUUCUUUUGCCAUCACCAUUGCGAGAAAAACUUUUCUGGCACGGAGAUGCCAGGUAAGCAAUUCAGUUAAGUAUUUUUUUUGUUUAUCAAUAGUUUAGAGCAUUAUUUAUUAUAAUUAGGGAUGGCCCUGGCAUGGUGCAAGUGGCGCUACUGCACAGACCUCCAAUUUUGAGGGCUCCCGAAAUUUUUUUACUUUAUAAAAACUUUAUAUAUACUCAAGCGUGCAACACAUUGACACAAAAGUAUAUUUGAUGGAGAUGGUUUCUAGUGCAUAUCUCUUAAUACAAGGACUAGGUUCUAGUCUUAAUGAUGUCAUUCUAUUCAUAUUUUUAUUCCUUUUUCAUUAUAACAACAAAAUUUAAAUAAUUAAAAAAAAAAUAAAGGGGAAAGAUCCAACUAAACUAACAAUAGUAUAUCACACCCAUAUGAUUUCUACUUAAAAAAAAAGUACUUUCUUCCACUCAAAACAAAAAUUCAUGCCUUCUUUUUUCUCUUUAACUCUUAUUAACAUUUAUGAAUUUAUCAAAUGAAAAUAUUAAAAAAUUUAUGACUUUGAUUUGUGAUUGUUAUUACAUGUUAAGUGGUGAUGAAUUUUAGUUAUUAAAAAAUUAUUUUAUGACAUUAAGUAAUGACAAUUUUUUUUAAAAUAUUUUAAUAUUAGAUUAUGUGAAGACUCCAGUUGAAGUUUUGCACAGGGCCCUCAAAAUCUCAGGACCGGCCUUGAUUACAAUUAGGCCUUUACAUGGGCCUCUACUGUACCCUUUUGAGUGCUUGUUGGUGAAGAGCCACAUCAUCAGGAUUGGUACGCUUGCAGGGACGGAGGCUAUCGAUUUCCUACCAUAUUAAAUGUUAUUUUCAUAGAAAACAGUCACAGGCUCACCAUUUGGAAAGGUGGUAACCAACUAAUGACGGAGUUGGUACAACUUGGAGCUAUUUUGAGUGACGGCAUAGGUUUUCCGAGUUGCUUCCCACACCACACAAGCAGUUGGGCAGUGAUCAAAUAAGACACGUACAUUCUUAGUCAUGGAGUUAAGGAGCCAUGACUGCACCAAAAAAUUGUCUUCAUCCCAAGCGUCAUAGCUAGAGUCAUUAAUGGCAGGGACAAUGUUUUUACCAUUGAUGAAACCAGCCAUACGACGAGUAGUAAUGGCCAAACGAACACUACGAGACCACGCAGAGUAGUUGGACCCAUAUGCUAAUCUGGAGUAAUUUGAGAGGAGUAGUUGUGAGAGGAACAGACUGGUGGAGUUGAGGAGUUAGCCUUAGUGGAGUCGGCCGUGGUGGAGUCAAUGUUGGUUGAGUCGUUGGUGUCACCCAUGAGAGAAGUAGGUAAAUAAAUAGAGCUGAAGAUAGCUAGAACACAGCAAACAAGAGCAACAAGUGCACAACCAAGCAAAGCAAAUAAGAGCACAAAUAAGGAUUAUUGUCACAACAAAGACAAGGGUAGAGGUAGGGACAAUGUAGUAGCAAAGUAAUCGCAAGGUUAAGUAGAGACAAGACAAGAACAAGGUUAUGCAGAGGCAACCAAAAUUGAUUCCUCUAAGAGCAGUUCCACCGGGAUGACUGAGCCCAAGGCUGGGGGGGGGGGGGGGCCGAAAAAAAAUUCGUUCCAACGGGGAGCCCAGGCCCGGGUUGCGUGUGGGACCCACCAACUCGGGCUGGCCCUCGGGCUAGUUUAGCCCGCGUGCAAAACCCAGGCUGAUGACGUCACGGCUUGCGUCAGCGUGAUGUCAUCGCCCGGUAUUAAAUUUUUUUUUUUAAAAUCGAUUUUUUUUUAAAAAAUUCUAAAAAAGUCAGAUUUUUUCUUCUAUAAAUACCUAUCAAUACCCUUCACUUUCAACACCAAUCCUCAUACAUUUUCUUUGUCCUUUUACUUUCAUUUAUUUUUAUAUUACUCCAUUUACUUAAGUUUACAAUGUAAAUAAGGAAGUGCCCCCCAUUUGGAUUCAAAUAAAAAUACUAGAAAAUCAAAUUCCCACUAAAUCAAAAUAUGAAAAAUCGGUUUUAGUGCAAAAUACGAUUUAGGCUAAAAAUGAUGGCUCAUUAAGUCAAUAUAUACUUCAUAUUAAAAUCCCAUAAAAUCAAGUUUUCUUAUUUGAUGUGUAAGGAAUAAAAGCCGCCAAAAAAUUAUCUUGAGAAAAUGAUUAUUCCGAAAAACCAUUUUUCAUACUUAGCCAAUAUUGCACCUCCGCUACAAAAAUUAUGGGUCCGCCCGUGUCUAUAAAUACCAACCAAUACUCUUCACUUUUAACACCAAAUCCUCAUACUUUUUUUUUCUAUAAAUACCAACUAAUACAACUAAUAAAAUAAAAUCUUAUCUGAUAUGAAUAGUAUUGACACGUAGGAACCCAAAAAUCAUAUCCGAAAAUAUUAUCCAAAUUAAUUAUUUAAGUAAAAAAAAGUUGUGAAAAAACAAAAAAAUGAAUAGUAAUUGCCCUUAGCCAUGGCAAUGGGUGAAAACACAAAAUACUAUUUGCAUGGGCAACCACUAUUCACGUGAAUAGUGGCUGCCCUAGCUCCACCCUUGCCAUGACUAAGGGCAAAUGGGUGAAGUUGCUCUAAUACCAUGCAAGAAUAAAAGUAUGAGAAGAAAGGUUUUCCAGUUACAAUUCUAUUUCUCUUCGUAUUAUAUACAACAUAACUUAUACAAGGGGAAGGCUUGCUAAUCAAGCUCUGUAAUGACUUGUUACAGAAGACUGAAAAGAAGUCAUUUUGGAAAGAGGUCAUUUUUGGACGAAAAUAUCAUCUUAUUUCCUAGAGAAAAGGAAGGUACACCUGGCUCAACUCAAUGGCCUCCAAUUUGCACCAUAGCAGGUAACAUUUCUUGUGUUUGUAAUGUGUUUCAUAGGCUCAGCUCAAUGGCCUCCAUUUAUAUUUGUUGAUUAGUUUUCUCCAAUAUCUUAAUUGACUCCCAUUCACUUUGAUAUAUUUAUAAUAUUUAACAAACCAAAUUUACAGGAUGCAAUGUUCACAACACAAACAUUUUUCUAUAUAAACUAUCCAUGCGUUUGAAAAUUAUCACAAAAUUCUAGUGAGAAAAUAAGACACAAGAAAUUUAUUCAAAACUUUAGCCAGGUUUCAAAAUUAUCACAAAAUCUUCGUGAAAUUUGUUGGAAUUUUGAGCACUUGUUCCCAAACAAAAUUUUUGAAACCAUAAGGAUAGCAGAUCAAUUUUGAAGUGGUAAUAAUGUAUUAAUAUAGUUUUGUUAGAACUUUAACAUUGCCAUUUACCUAACUGUGGCUAACUACUCAUUGUGACAAUAAGCUAACUGUGGCUAAUUAUUUCCCUUUGGUCCUGUUUGGUGGGCUGGACUGGAUGAGACUUUUUAAAUUAAAAUGGACAUGAGUCCUGUCUGUUGUUUGGUGGGCUUAAUUACAUCACACACUGGCUUGAACUUAAAUUUCUGUUUAGGAUAUGAAUCCAGCAUAUGCUGGAUAACAAAACCCAAGGUGAGACAUGGGUUUCGAAGCUGUUUUCUUAGUCUUCUCGUCUUCUCUCUCUCUCUCUCUCUCUCUCUCUCUCUCUCUCUCUCUCUCGCUCCCCCAAUUCAUCAGCCCAAUCUCGCUCAUCUCCUUGUUCCACCGCCUUUGACCUUUCUCUAGAGUUAUGGCCUCUGACGAUAAGCUCUCUCCUACGACCGUCUAAUGACAUUGUCGUUGGGUUGAUCCAGCUGACCGCCUACUCAAACCCUCCAUGGCCAUGGAGUCAUUUUAUAGUGAGGGUCUUAUUUAAAGCCUUUAGAUAAGGUCAUAUUUCUCAAUCGUUGGAUCAAACUAACCAAUUUAAUUGAACGGUUAAGCAUUAAUGUGCUUAACUAUCACUUAAACUACAAACUUCUCUGAAUAAUUCAUUUACAUUUUAGACUAGGAUGAUUAGACAUAGUCAAAUUCAAGUUAUUUUUAGACGACCAAACAAGUGACUAGGAUUGUGAAUCCUUUGCCAGACAUGUAGCUUCAAUAUUCAUAACAUAACACAAUCAAAGUUUAGUGACCAUUAAUAGUCUAAUAAUAGCAUCAUAAUCAGAUAACUUCUAAAACUUUUUCUAAGAGGUCCAAAUGGUUGGUUGCUUCUAGAAGACCUAGUUCUAGUUGUGCUGGGUAGCCAUUGUUAGCGUGACUUGUGGAUAUUGACUUACUUUCCUUACACACCAAGAAUUCCUAUUAUAAUUGUAAUUGAUUUACUUUAAUUAUUGAUUUCCUACUGUAAAUAGAUUUAGGAAUUUACUAUUUACUUGCCCAUUCAGGUUUCGUUGUAUUAUAAAUAUGACUUCCUACAAGGAGAAGAAUACACAGAAAAUUCCCACAAACAAAUAUUCUCUCAUAGUUUUUAUAUUUUAGCAUGGUAUCAGAGCGGCGAUCUUGGAAUUGCUGACUCUAAUUUCAAACCCCCGCCGCUGUUAUGGGGGUUGAUGAUUUUUUCAACCCUCAUGGAGGUAGCACCACCGACUCCUUCUCUCAUUCUCAACCAACCAUCGUUGAGUUGAGUGCCCAGAUGGCUCCGCUCCUACAAAUGCAGACUUUGACCCCGAACCCGAUCCAGAAUCAGGAUCCUCUUUUGACGACCCCGACCCCGACCCCGACUAUGACGACGACGACCCCAACCCCCAUUCCGAUGAUGACCCCAACCCCGAAUUUGUCUCUGAUUCAGCCCCUGAUCCUGAUUUCGACUCCGACUCCGGCCCCGACUCAGGCUCAGAUUCCAAUCCAAAUUCCUACUCAAUCUGUAUCCUAUGCAUCUUCCGCUGCCCAGAUUAUGACUUCUAGACUAACGACCCCGACACAUGGACCAAAUUGCGCAUAUUGUGGUGAUCCGAGACACACUUGUGAGCCUUGUUUUAAAACGCAUGGCUAUCCCAAUUGGUAGGCUACUCUUACAGAUCGAGGACAAUGCAAUAUGACCAGUAAUGAUACUGGUUAUGGAUUCCAUACUUUCGAUAAGAUUGAUUCCAGGAGCUGGAUAAUUGAUUCCGGUGCAACUGAUCAUAUGACGUUUGAUCCUGAUGAUUUUCUGAAUUCUACACAACCUCGACGAACCUGUAUUGCAAAUGCCAAUGGUGUUACUUAUCCUAUGACAGGGGCUGGCACUGUUGCACUCUCAUCCUCUCUCACAUUGUCUAAUACUUUACUUGUUCCAUCUUUAUCCACUAAAUUAUUGUCAGUUAGUCAGCUUACUGAACAAUUGAAUUGUUGUGUACUCAUUUACCCAAGUUUUUAUUUGCUUCAGGAUAUUCACACUAAGAAGAUUCUUGGUCGUGGUACUAAGAGAAGGGGGCUAUAUUAUGUCGAUGACUUCAGUCCCGGCGUGGCUAACAGUGUGACACAUCCCUUUGAUAGCAAACAAAAGCAAAUCUGGUUGUGGUACCGUCGAUUGGGACAUUCAUCUUUUAGUUAUAUGAAGCAUCUUAUACCAAAUUUAUUCUCAGGUUUCAAGGACUCCGACUUCACAUGUGAUACUUGUAUUUUGGCCAAGAGUCACCGUGUGCCAUACUCGUUGAGUACGAACAAGUGUACUACUCCAUUUAUGUUAAUUCACUCUGAUGUCUGGGGACCUUCUCCUAUCACUGCUCAUUCUGGUGUUUGAUGGUUUGUCACAUUCAUCGAUGAUUGUACACGGAUGACAUGGCUUUAUUUGAUGAAGAAUAAAAACGAAGUGUUUUCCCAUUUUCAGUCCUUCUACAAACAGAUGAAAACUCAGUUUAAUGCUCAAAUCCAGAUUCUUCGCUCAGACAAUGGUGGAGAAUUUGUCAAUCAUGACUUUCAGACUUACUUCCAACAACAUGGAAUUAUCCAUAAGACGACUUGUCCUCAGACACCGCAACAAAAUGGUGUUGCUGAAUGAAAGAAUCGACAUCUUCUUGAAACCGCCCGAGCACUUCUGAUUGGCACUCAUGUUUCUCGCCAUCACUGGGAUGAUGCUAUUGUCACCGCAGUUCAUCUGAUCAACUGCAUGCCUUCUGGUGUACUGACCUUUAAAACUCCCUUACAGGUGCUUGCACAACACAGACCUAUGCCUUCUGUUUUGGUACGCAUAACCCGAAUCUUUGGAUGUAUGGCUUUCGUUCAUCUCCACAAAAGUCAAUGUAGCAAACUUGAUCCAUGUGCACUUCGUUGUGUUUUUGUGGGUUAUGCCACUCAUCAGAAAGGCUACCACUGUUAUCACCCUCCUACCCAACGAACCUAUGUCACUUUGGAUGUGACCUUUCUGGAAUCUGAGCUAUUCUUCCAUGACCCAUCAUCCAAUUCUACGCUUCAGGGGGAGAUACGAAGUGAAGAGCAGAAUUGGAGCAACUUGAAAAAUAAAGAAAUUCUCCUCUGUACAGAAAUGAUUGAUCAUCCCGAGUUUGGAGCACGAGAUUACUCUCUGUCAAAAAGCGACUAAUCGUCCAUUCAUAGCGAUCAAUUGCCUGACCCACCUGAUCCAUGCGAAGAUAUUUCUGAUCCGAGUCUCACACCUACAGACAAUACAGAACAACAAGAUGAAGAACCCCCCUCUAACUCAAUAGUACAAACAGACCAAUCUCCUGAAAAUAUCCUUGAGGUAACUACUCCUACUAGACUUGUGCAUUUAGAUGAUAAAACUAUUGGAUAUCAAUUACCUUUCAGGCAAAAUCGUGGGAAGCCACCAAACCGUUAUUCACCUGAUAUUGGCAAGACAUCCAAGUAUCCAAUUGCAAAUCAUGUAUCCACUGAGAAGCUGUCUGAACCACUCAAGGCUUUUGUGCAUCAGUUGUCUACUAUCCAUAUUCCAACCAAGGUCUCUGAAGCAUUGAAAGAUCCUAAGUGGGUCCAAGCUAUAAAAGAGGAGAUGAAAGCCCUUGAGAAAAAUCAGACUUGGACAUUGGAGACUAUACCUCGAGGAAAAAAACUAUCGGAUGUAGAUGGGUGUUUACUAUAAAACACAAUGCAGAUGGAUCUAUCAAGUGAUACAAGGCAAGACUUGUGGCAAAAGGGUAUACACAGACCUAUGAUAUAGACUAUGAAGAAACCUUUGCUCCAGUUGCAAAGUUAAACACCGUCAGAGUCUUAUUGUCCCUUGAAGCUAAUUUGGAUUGGCCACUACACCAGUUUGAUGUAAAUAAUGCUUUUCUGCAUGGCGAACUCACGGAGGAGGUGUACAUGGACAUUCCUCUUGGAUAUAAUACUACUCAGACUGGAACAGUUUGCAGGUUACGAAAAGCAUUGUAUGGAUUGAAACAGUCACCACGUGCAUGGUUUGGACGGUUCACCAUGGCAAUGAAGAACAACGGUUUCAAACAGUGCAACUCAGAUCAUACUCUGUUCUUGAAACAUAGAAAAGGGAAGGUAACAACAUUAAUAAUCUAUGUUGAUGAUAUGAUUAUUACUGGGAAUGAUAAACAGGAAAUAUCACAGCCACAAGACUAUCUGGCUACGAAGUUUGAGAUGAAGGAUCUAGGUGGACUCAAGUAUUUCUUGGGAAUUGAGGUGGCUAGAUUGCAGCAAGGCAUAUUUCUCUCUCAAAGGAAAUAUGUCUUAGACUUGUUGACAGACACAGGAAUGCUAGAUUGUAAACCUGCGGACACUCCUAUUGUUCAGAAUCAUCAUCUUGGAGAAUAUUUGGAUCAAGUUCCAACUAACAAAGAAAGAUGCCAAAGGUUAGUGGGAAGAUUGAUCUAUUUGUCACAUACUCGACCAGACAUUGCUUAUGCGGUGAGCGUUGUCAGUCAAUUUAUGCACUCUCUAAAUGAAGACCACAUGAAUGCAGUUCUUCGGAUACUUAGAUAUUUGAAGUCUGCACCUGGAAAAGGAUUUAUGUUCUCAAAGCAUGGUCAUUUAAAUAUUGAUGGUUAUUCAGAUGCAGAUUGGGCAGGUAAUAUAACAGAUAGAAAAUCCACAUCGGGUUACUUCACAUUCGUAGAAGGUAAUUUGGUGACAUGGAGAAAUAAGAAACAGAAUGUAGUAGCUUUAUCCAGUGCAGAAGCCGAGUUCAGAGGCAUGACUAAAGGGAUUUGUGAACUUCUUUGAUUAAGAAAGUUGCUUACUGAACUUGGGUAUAAACCUAUAUCUACAAUGAAUCUCUUUUGUGACAACAAGGCUGCUAUAGCCAUUGCACAGAAUCCGGUUCAACAUGAUCGUACUAAACAUGUUGAGGUGGAUCAACACUUCAUCAAACAGAAGCUUGAGGGUAAAGUGUUUCAGUUUCCUUUUGUGAAAUCUGAGGAUCAAUUGGCGGAUAUUUUGACAAAGGCAAUUUCCAGUAAAGCAUUCCACAAUUCACUAGAUCAGUUGGGCAUUGACGACAUCUAUGCACCAACGUGAGGGGAACUGUUGGCGUGACUUGUGGAUAUUGACUUACUUUCCUUACACACCAAGAAUUCCUAUUAUAAUUGUAAUUGAUUUACUUUAAUUACUGAUUUCCUACUGUAAAUAGAUUUAGGAAUUUAUUAUUUACUUGUCCAUUCAGGUUUCGUUGUAUUAUAAAUAUGACAUCCUACAAAGAGAAGAAUACACAAAAAAUUCCCACAAACAAAUAUUCUCUCAUAAUUUUCAUAUUUUAGCAGCUAUUAGGUCAUGCAAAGAAACCAAAGCCAUAGCAAUCAAAAUCCUCAUCAAGUAUCAAAAGCCCAGUUGAACUUCUACAUGUGUUGGUAGGCGUAGCCUCAAAAGAAACCCACUCAUAGAUUAUUAUUAUUAUUUUUUUGGGGUAAGUGGGGGCCUAAAAGUCCAAACCAAAUCGAUUACAAAAUAACAGAACGAGGCCUCACAGUGCCCCUGAUAUCCGCAGCAAGGAUAUCUUCAAAGAAGUCAGGAACCUCAUCAUAAACAUGGAGACCAGAGCCAAAAUUAUAACUUCUGGUAGCCGAAGCAUCAGCAGCUACUACAACCCACUCAUAGACUUUUGACUUUGGGAAAAGGAUGCUAAUUAUAAGGCUGUCGUUAUCAUAUCCUCCAUUGUACACAACAUCAAGAUUUCGAUUCUCAAAUUGAUAAGUAUAGUAUGAUAUCAUAAUUGAUGUUCGUUCACAUCAUUAAUUUAUCUUAAGAUAUAUUAUUUUAUUGGUGACAACCAUUCUAAUUUAUUUUAGUCUUUAUUUUGUUUGAUCCCACUUGGAUCAUCCUAAAACAUAAAAAUAAAUAAAUAAAUAAAUAAAUACAUAUAUAUAUAUAUAUAUAUAUAUAUAACUACCAAGUCUAUAGGUUUGGCCUGUUUUUGGCCGAGAUAUUUGAAUUUGCAGUUGCUUUGCUUUAUGAAUUUUGAUGUUCAUGAUUUUUUUAAUUAAUUUAUCAAAAUGAUAUUUUAAAUUACUAAAAUUUACGGAAAAAGAGAUUUAAACUCGGUUGGAAAAUAGUAGGCACACUAUAGUGCCUACUAUAGAGAUAUAAAAGAACUCCAAAGAAUUAGAAGAACUGGGCUUUAGGCUGAGUUGGUUAAUGCUUUUUUUAGGUCAUUUAGUGGGCUAAGUUGAAUUGUGAUGGGGCUACAAGUUCUUAAAAAAUAUUAUAAUUGGCUGAAUUAGUUAAACAAUUAGGUGGUUAAAUUUAAAAUUUUACAUCCAAGUGGGUUCGAUAUUGCUCUAACUAACUAACUGCCCUAACUCACAUAUGCAAUUUCGAUUUUAUUUAAAAGCCUAAAAUCAUAACAAAUCACUUUCUACUUUGUGACAUAACCCUGUCACACUAACCAAUGAAACCCUAUUUCAGAUUUCUAAUCAUGACUUUUAUAACAUCAAAUUAUGUGGCGUGAUUAGUAAAUAAUGAUAUUAAUUUACUAUAUUCAGUAAUAAAUGGUACUAAAAAUCAAACUUCUAAAUAAAACUUAAGACUUUUUUUUCCUUGCUUUUUUGUUUCAUGAAAGCUAUAGAUUGAAAACAAUGGAAAACCGCUUUUUCUUUUCAGCCUUUAUCAGUUUAAUGGGUAAUGCUAGGCUUACCACAUUUUUAUACCAUAUUGUGUAUCACCUCUCUAAUAGAGAUGGAGCCCACUAAUACAAUGAGUCUCACUUAUAUUAGAGAGAUGGUACAUAAUGUAGUAUGAAAAAUGUGGUAAGCCUCACAUUUUUCAUAAAUUCUCGAUGAAACCAAAGUGUGAAUGAUGAUUAGAGUCGUGAGACAAAACGCUUGAGAAUGACUAUAAAAAGAAAAAAAAAAAGAAAAAAAAAGAGAGAAAACUAUUUUUCUCAAAUUUGUUUUUUAUUUUCCAAAUCCCGCGCAUAUUUUCCAUUGAUGUUAGUGUUCAAAGGUCCAAUUGCAUUUUCAGGUUAAAAAACUAUGGUCUUUAACAUGAGAACAUUUGUGUGAAACGGGGAUAACACUGUUUUAUUAUCUCUGGCUAAUCACAGUAUGUCACUCGUGAUAAUUUUUUUACAUGACAGUCUAUGAUUGACCAGGAAUAACAAAACAUACUAUUCCCAUUUCAUCACCAAGUUUUUCUGCCUCGGCAGGUGACAGAAUCAAUGCCAAGUCUGAUAGAGAUUCUGUGGGCCACAAUCAUGACACGUGGUGUGUAUAGAAGAAGAGUGCAAGCUGCUUUUGUGCUUUAUUUAUUUAUUUAUAUAUUCUUUCUACUUGGUAAGCUACCUGGAUUUAGCUUUUUUAUUUAUAGAAAUUCUAUGAUUGCAUUCAUAAUUCAGCCAAAAAAGUCAUUAGCCACAAAAUGGCCAAUACAAACUAGCCACAAAAAGGCCAUUACAAUGACGAAGCGAUCUAACAUCAAAAUUAAGACAAUUUGGUGCACCACGACUAACGAUCAUGCAUGAUCAAAGAAACUCUGGUAUAUGCAUCUCAACUAAGAUUGCAAACUUAGAAUAAUCAAAAAGAGAUAAAGCUUGAAAAACCCAAGCCAUAACAAUACAAAUAAAACUCUCACAAAGGAGAGGAGAAAAACUUUCACAAAAGGAGAGGUGAAAAACUUUCACAAAAGGAGAGGUGAAAACAACACAGAGAACCCAAAGAGUCUCUGCAACUUAUUCCAAACAUAAAGAAACAGCAAAAAAGAUGAUGUUAGAGAUCCAAUGCCAAAACGCAGGUGGAUUUAGCUUUUAUUUUUAUGAGUUUUUUUUUUUCUUCAACUUAAAUUUGAUCAUAUCAUAAGUUUUUUUCCCUAAAAAUAUUACAGAUUUGCAUUAAAAUGGUUGAAGAUGAGAUAGAGUUUUAAUAUGCUCUCUAGCCUCUUGUAUUGAGAUUAAAAAAAAUGAACUAUAAUAUUUUUCAUUAUGAUAUAAAUAAAAAGAAAAGAAAACUAUAUUCUAGUAAAAUUUAGAAAAUAAAUUUGAAUUACCCUUCAAAAAUUUUCUAUUAUAAUAAUCACCCUCUAUAAAUCUAUCGAGCUAAUUCAUGCAUUUGGUUAGUAGGAAAAGGAAUGAUUUCCCAUGUUUGGUAAGUCCAAAUUUGAAAAAUGAUUUCAUGACUCAUGAGAAAAUAUAGGAGAAAAUGAAACCCUCCAUCUACCUUAGGUUUCAUUUUCCAUUCGCAUGGGGCAUGUGUUUUAAGAGAUUUAACUUCAUCUCCUUGGUUUAUAUAUUAGUUUUUUUAAAAUAAUUUUUUUUUGUCCUUGAAUAUAUAUUUUUCUUUAAAUAUUUAGUUAUAUAUAUCAAAAAAUCACUUGAAUCCAAUAUCAUUUGGCUACUCAAUUAAAUUACUGAAAUUUUAGGACUUUCUUGAAAUUUUUUGUAAAUAUAAUAUAUGAAUGAAGACUUAAAAAAAUAGAUAAUUUGAAUCAUUAGAAAAAAAUAAUUGUAAAAAAUUUUAAUUUUUUAAUAUUAAAAAAUGUGAAUUUACGAUAUUAUCCUCAUUUAAUUAAUAAUUUCAAUUCUUAAUGUUUGAAUUAACAAAGGGCAUUUUCUGGUAUUUUGAAUGUUUCACCAUUCUUUGCCUUUUGCUUUAUACUAGCCUCUCUGCACGCGCUUCCGCGCUUGCGAGAGGUUUUUUUUAAAAAAUAAGUAAAUUUAUUUUAGAAUUAAAAAAGAUAAUGGGUAGUUGUGUUCCAUAAAAAUAGGAUCCAUUAUCUGCUUUUUUUUUUCUUUUUUUUUUAAAAUAUGAAAAAGUGUGAAUUUAUCAUAUUAUCCUCAUUUAAUUAAUAAUUUGAAUUCUUAAUGUUUGCAUUAACCAAGGGCAUUUUCUGAUAUUUUGAAUGUUUCACCAUUUUCUACCUUUUGCUUUAUAUAUAUAGAUAUAUAGAUUCUUCAAAUAAAAUUAUUUAAAUAAUUUUUCAAUAUAAAAGGAAUAUAUAUAUAUUUUAUUCAUUAGAGGAUUCAACACGCUUAAAGAGGAGGAGUGGCACUGGCAACAAGGUUAACAGAGUACGUGUUUCCAAGUAAAACUGCUAUAAAUAAGUCACACGCCCAUAAGACCAUUUCAGAUUGAUCUACCAAACCGAUUUCACGUAUGGAGUCCCAAAACAACCAAAUCCCUCCAACCCAAAACCCUCCUCCUCAUCAACCUUUUCCUCAGUCUCAGUCAUCAGCACCACCACCCGGUUUCUCAGCCAAAGUUGUCAGCCAAGUAAAAUCCAAUCUGAUUUUCAAGUCCAAGUGGGCAGAAUUGAAUGGGGCAGUGGGUGAUUUGGGCACAUACAUACCAAUUGUUGUGGCCUUGACACUCUCUAGGGACUUGAAUUUGGGCACAACAUUGAUUUUCACUGGGGUCUACAACAUUAUCACUGGUGCCAUCUAUGGAGUCCCCAUGCCAGUCCAACCCAUGAAGGCAAUUGCAGCCACUGCUCUGGCCAACCCAGAUUUUGGUGUGCCUGAAAUCAUGGCUGCUGGGAUUUUAACUGGAGGCAUCUUACUUGUUCUGGGUGUCACAGGGUUGAUGAAGUUGGUUUACAAGUUUAUCCCUUUAUGUGUUGUUAGGGGGAUUCAGCUAGCACAAGGCUUGUCAUUUGCGUUGACUGCGGUCAAAUACAUUAAGAAAGUUCAAAACUUGCCCAAGUCUAAGGCUUUGGGGGAGAGGCAUUGGUUUGGUUUAGAUGGAUUGGUUCUGGCUAUUGUUUGUACUUGUUUUAUAGUGCUUGUUAAUGGUGCAGGUGAGGAAUAUCAUCAGAGAAGUGAGGGGCAGGCUGAUGCUGCUGUGGGUUCUAAUAAUGAUGUGGAAGGGAGGCCUGGCAGAAAGGCAAGGUGGAGGAAAAUCAUAGCCUCACUUCCUUCAGCUUUUCUGAUUUUUGUGUUGGGUGUGAUUUUGGCCUUUAUAAGAAAACCAAAGAUUGUGCAUGAAAUUAAAUUUGGACCCUCUCCCUUGGAAGUGGUGAAGAUUUCUAGGCAUGCAUGGAAAGAAGGGUUCAUCAAAGGGGCAAUUCCUCAGCUACCCUUGUCUAUAUUGAAUUCAGUGGUAGCUGUGUGCAAACUGUCCAAUGAUCUUUUUCCUGAGAGGGAUUUCUCAGCCACUUCACUUUCAGUGACAGUUGGGUUGAUGAAUGUGGUGGGGAGUUGGUUUGGGGCCAUGCCAAGUUGCCAUGGAGCUGGUGGGCUAGCAGGGCAGUACAAGUUUGGGGGUAGGAGUGGUGGGUGUGUGGCUCUUCUAGGCACAGCCAAAUUGGUGCUGGGUUUGGUCUUAGGGACCUCCUUGGUGACCAUUUUGAACCAGUUUCCUGUUGGGGUCUUGGGGGUUCUGCUUUUGUUUGCUGGGAUUGAACUAGCCAUGUGUGCCAGGGACAUGAACACAAAGGGGGAGUCUUUUGUGAUGCUUAUUUGCACUGCAGUCUCACUAGUGGGAUCAAGCGCAGCACUUGGCUUUGUGGUUGGGAUGGUUGUGUAUUUGCUUCUGUGUAUUAGAAAAUUGGGCAGGGACAAGCCUGCUUCUAUGAUAUGGAUGCAUGGUGUUGUCUAGACUUUUGUAUUUGUUUGAUGAUGUAGCGUACAUUUUGAAGUUGGUAAUUAAGUUGGUGCAUGCAAGGUUUGGAAUUGAUUUGAAAAAGAGUGAGGAUUUUGUGGGAUUGAGGACUUUUCUGCAGAACAGAAAGAAAAGGUGCUUGCUUUUUAGUUUUUUACUUGUAACUUUGCCUUUUUGUAAUGGUUUUAAAUUGGUGUUCUGGGAGAGAGUCAACAAGUGAAAAAAUUACUCACUAGUGAGUUGAGUCUCAGUAUUUGUUGCCUGCAGCUUUUCCCUACUUGCUUACAUUGUAGAUCGCCUACACUGUAAUAUGUAUAUAUUGACUUACUAUGAAUAAAGGAAAGCAAUUGUGUUCAUAUUUCUUGAAGCUGUUGUCUAUCUUUCUACUGAUCAUACAUAUAUUGACUUGCUAAAGAGGUACAUUCAUUGUAAGCUGGGUUUUUGUUUUGCCAGUGUGUAUCUCUCUCAUCACUUAACUUGAAAAAGAUAGACACGUAAUUGUAUACAACCGUUACACUUAAAAAUUUCCUCCGUACAGAAGCUCAUGUUUUUGACUGACCUGAUCAAACACUUGCACAUCAGAUUCACCAUUAUAAAUUGAUGUCCACAUUCAUGUAAUUGUACUUUUUGAUGCAGAGGUGGAAAGAAUCGUAAGCUGCAGUAAUUACCAACUUCUAGUACUUUUUGGUUCCUCCAACUGCGCCUCCACAAUAGCUGCAAAGAUAUGAAUAAAUAUAGAAAGGAUAAGAGCCCAUUUGCGCCUAAGCAUAUUCUUCAUUAAUUGUGCUGCUAAUCUGCAUCAAAGAUAAGAUAACCAACCCAUUUUCCAUGAUUUUGUUCCCCUUAGUUGAAAUUCAAGAGUUUGAACGGUUGACCUUCCACUUGGGUAAAAAGUUAAAAAGGCAAAAAGGGAAAACAGAGGAUGCCUCUGAAUAAACAAAUUUAAGUAUAUAGAAUAAUUUAGUAAUGUUGCUGACUGACGUGUAAACCUAAUUAUGAGCCAUUUCUCAUCUCAGAAGUCAAUUUCUGCAUCUGAUUGGAAUUAGUGCGUUGGUAGAGGCUUUUACUACAACAGAAUGAUAACAUACCUCCUCCUUUAAAUAAAGAGGAUGCCCUGCUUAUAUGCACAAGGCUUUGAAUAAAUUCUGCUGCUGUUCAUAGGGACCAUACAUAUAUGCUUCAGUAAUUUUGUUGACAUUCCUAUAUUCCUAGGGGAUCUACUUCAGUUAAAACCACAAAAACAUUUUCUUUUGUAAAAAACAAGUCUAAUUUCUCAUACUGUCGAGGUUUCUUACCCCAAAAAAAUAAAAAAGCGAGUGAACCAAAAACAAAUGAUACAUUGUGUUAUAUUUUUUUAGGAUCCAAAAAUUUGAUGCUCAAGUGUGAAGCCUAUAGAGUUACUCUCAUAAGUAUACACUAUCUAAAGCAUUGCCUAAAUAAUUUGUGUCCAUUUUCCAUUUUUUUUCCUUUUAAUUUUACAUUAUUUCAGCAUCUCUUCUUGUCACCUGGAUAUUGGCUCUGGAUUAUUUUUCUAUAUUUAUAAAUGGCUUUUCAGUUGGGAUGUGUGGUCAGGGGACACUAGGAACUUAUUCCCCUAGAACAUGAGCAGUUAGCUCAGCUUAACUUCCACUUUUUAACUUGAAAAGAAAAAUAAGGAAAAGAGAGAGAGAGAGAGAGAGAGAGAUUGUUUACAAAUUAUGUCCAUUCAUGACAUCUUAAGGCAAUAAUAACCCAUUCGUCAUUCCAGAAGCCAGUCUAUGCAUCUACCAUGCCUAAAUGCAAGCCAGAGGGGUCAAAAGGAAAACGCUGCUUCCAUCAUUUUGGAAGUACAAUGGCCACUUCAGAAAUUGAGAAAUUAUUGGCUCGUUCUCUGACAGCUUCGUAAAAACUCAAAUUCGGGUAUAGCAAAACGAAGAGGCUCCUAACCUCAUCCAAAAAGUGUAUCAUAAACAAUAUAAUGGCAUAAGAGAGCAUUUUUUAAUUUCAAAUACACAAGAUUCAGCUCCAGUUGAGUAAAAUAUGAUAGCAGCCUCAUGCAAAAUUAGAGAAUCAACAGGAAUACUGAGAGAUCUUUGUAUGUUUGGUGACAGUGGUAAAGUCCUUGACUGCAAAUGUGUAUAUUAAGCAACAAAGUAAGAAAAAACCAUAAACUACAUAAGACAUAAGAGAAAGCAGUAUAUUUACAUUGAAGAAUUUUCAGAAUAAUUCAUAAUCAGUGAUUGCUAAACUGAAUUUUCAAUAUUUAAUAAGGAGGAAACGAUAUUUAUCUUACCUCACCAUUUGAAGCUCGAACCGGAGUAUUUAUAUGUUUUGAACCACUAUCUGCAGCGAAGGAUUGCUGAAUUUUCAAUAUUUAAUAUAGAAAAAUAAUCCACAGCCAUUAUCCAGGUGACAAGAAGAGAUGCUGAAAUAAGGUAAAAUUAAAAGGAAAAAAAAGGAAGAAGGAAAAUGGACACAAUCAUCACACAAUCUAUGUUUCUGCCUGUCCUAGACACCAACCUCAAAACCAGAGGGCACCCGUAACAGGCGAAACAGUUGGCGACGAGGAUUGGAUUGUUGAAAUAUAAGUGUCUUAGCUGAAAUGUUUUUGUACUUAGUUUAAUUUUUAGUAUUUCAAAUGUAAGCCAUUGGAUUACAUUCCAAUGGACAGCUAAGAUGAAGUCUUAGAGUUAAGAGUCAACUUAUGCCACUUGUCACUAUAUUAUAGGGUGAUUUGGAUGAUCUAAUGGGAAUAUUCUAUUCCCAACGGUUAAGUGUGUGCACAGAUUGUGUGUCCGAUCAAUGAAUAAAUAGCUCAUCUUUGUUUUUCCUUUAAAGCUCUCUCUCACUCUGCAAAUCUCUCUGAAAAACUUUACUCAUUCAAUAUCAUUUUGUAGAAUGCAAGUUAUAAUUCAGAUCAUAGUCUGAAUUCUAACAUGGCCUUAGAGCCAGGUUCGAUUGUUUAACUUUGGGCGAUUAAAUCUGUGAAGAAAACAAGCUGAAAUUUGGAAAAGUGGUUUCGCGAUCUGUGUCUAACAUGGCAAGGUCUGGAGGUGGUGAGCUGAGAGUGCCGAUCUUUGGCGGUGAUAACUAUGAGUUCUGGAGCAUAAGAAUGAAAAACCAUUUUCAAAUCUCAUGGGCUUUGGGAAUUGGUUGAGAAGGGAAUAGAGUGCUCAAAUUCGAAGGAAGCUGGCGAAUCUGAUGCUAAGAAGAAAGAAAAGGAAGAAUCGAGUGGUGCUGGGAAGAUGACUCUCACCGAGCUACUCAUGAAGGAUGCUAAAGCUCUGGGUCUGAUUCAAAGAGCAGUGUCCGAUGAGAUCUUCCCUCAAAUCUCUCAUGAAGAAACCUCUAAGGGAGCUUGGGAUAUCUUGAUGAAGGAAUUCCAUGGUGAUAAACAGGUUAGAAGUGUUAAAUUGCAAGGUCUACAUAGAGAAUUUGAAUAUACGAUAAUGAGAGAUGAUGAGUCCCUUUCUGCUUAUCUUACCAAACUUUUUGAUCUGAUAAACCAAAUGAGGAGCUAUGGAGAGGAUUUAGAUAGAUCAAGGAUUGUUCAAAAAUUACUAAUUAGUUUGCCAUCAGCUUAUGAUUCGAUCUGUUCCGUUAUUGAGCAUUCUAAGAAUUUGGAUGUAAUUGAGGUACAAGAAGUGGUAGCUUCUUUGAAGAGUUUUGAAUUAAGGCUAGAUAGGCACUCUGGAGAUAAGACUGAGAAAGCAUUUGCUAGUCUUAGUGUGAAUCCCAAAUUAGAAAAAUACAGUGGAAGUCAAAGUGGUUCUAAGGAUCAAAAGAAUUGGAAGGCAAAAGGCAAAAAGUGGGAUAAUAAAUCAACAGAUGGAGCUAGAAACCCCUGCAAACAUUGUGGCAAACUACAUUUGGGUGAGUGUCGGUUUAAGGGAAAACCAAAAUGUUACAACUGUGACAAAUUUGGUCAUAUUGCAAAAGAUCGCUAUAGCAAGAAACCAUGGCAACAGCUCAACUAUGCUACUCAGAUCGAAUCCACACCAACCAUGUUUUAUGGUAGUAAUAAAGGUUCUGCUAGUGUAAAAGGAUGUGAUGAUGUAUGGUAUUUGGAUAGUGGAUGCAGCAACCAUAUGACUACCAGAGAAGAUGUAUUAGUUGAUGUAGAUAGGAAUAUAACUGCAAAAGUUGCAAUGGAGACAGGACAAUUGGUUGAUGUUGUUGGAAAAUGAAAUCUUGUUGUUGACACUAAGAUGGGAAUAAGGUAUGUCAAAGAAGUACUGUUAGUUGUUGGCCUCAAGAAGAAUUUGCUCAGUGUAGGGCAAAUGAUGGAGCAUGGAUAUGUUUUGAUUUUUGGAGCCAAUAAGGUUGAAAUUUAUGAUGAUUGUUCUCUAUCAAAUCCAGUUGCUAAGGUGCAAAUGAAAGGCAACAAAAGCUUUCCUUUGAAGCUUCACACAACUUUACAGGUUGCAUUAAGGGCAAAUGUAGAGUCAUCAACCUUAGUUUGGCAUAGAAGAAUGGGGCAUUUAAACUUCACCAGUUUGAAGCUGCUGCAAGAUCAGGAAAUGGUAUUUGGAUUGCCAGAAAUUAAGCUUGUCAAUGAAGUGUGUGAGGGGUAUACUUUUGGAAAACAUUGCAGAGAUUCCUUUCCAAAAGAAACAACAAGCAGAGCCACAAUCCCACUCGAGUUGGUACACAUAGAUGUCUGUGGACCAAUGCAGACUGUUACAAAGCUGGAAAUAUGUAUUUUCUUACCUUCAUAGAUGAUUGUACUCAUAUGUGUUGGAUAUAUUUCUUGAGAUACAAAUCAGAAGUCCUUAAUGUCUUUUAAGAAAUUUAAAGCCACUGUUGAGCUGCAAAGUGGAUAUAAAUUGAAGAAAAUAAGAAGUGACAGGGGGGAGAAUAUACUUCCAAUGAAUUCAACAAAUUUUGUGAAGACAUGGGAAUGGAAAGGCAACUAACUGUGGCAUAUUCACCACGUCAAAACGGAGUAGCAGAACAAAAGAACAGAACAAUUAUGGAGAUGGCUAAAUGCAUGAUGAUUGAGAAGAAGAUGCCUCUAGAAUUUUGGGCUGAGGCAGUCAACACUGCAGUGUAUGUUCAGAAUAGAUGUCCAACUAACGCCUUAGACAAGAAAACUCUAUUUGAAGCUUAUAAUGGUAGAACACAAGGAGUUAAACAUUUAAGAGUGUUUGGUUCUUUGUGCUAUGCACAUGUUCCAAAUCAACAAAGGCAGAAGCUCGACUUAUCUAGUACAAGAUGUCUAUUUCUGGGGUAUGGUAGUUGUGAAAAAGGCUACAAACUAUAUAACAUUGCAUAUGGAAAAAUGAUUAUUUCCAGGGAUGUGAUAUUCAAUGAGGCAGCUGUUUAGGAUUGGAAUGCGCAAAAGGAAUGUGAUAUCUCAAUACCUCUUAAUGAGACACUCACUGAGAGAGAAGAGGAAUCUAGUGAAUCUAGCCUGAUUCAAGAAGAGAUUUCAGAAGAGGGGCAUGUUGAUCCUGACUCUGGAUCACAGGAUGUUGAUCACACACCUCUGAAAUACAAGAGUAUUGCAGAAGUGUAUAAGAGAUGUAACUUGUAUAUUAUCGAGCCUGAGACUUUUGAAGUGGCUGUUAAGGAUGAAGCAUGACAGAAAGCAAUGGAGAAUGAGAUAGAAAUGAUAGAGAAGAACAAAACUUGGGAGUUGGUUGAUAGACCAACUGAUAAACCAGUAAUUGGUGUCAAAUGGAUUUAUAAAACCAAGCUGAAUUUAGAUGGUACAGUUCAGAAAAAAUAAGACUCGACUAGUGGCAAAUGGCUAUUCUCAAAAGCCAGGGAUAGAUUUCAAUGAAACUUUUGCACCUGUUGCUAGGCUGGAUACCAUUAGGACAUUGGUGGCAUUGGCAGCAUUGGCUGCACAAAAGGGGUGGAAACUGUUCAGUUAGAUGUGAAGUCUGCAUUCUUAUGAAGAGGUGUAUGUGGAUCAACCUCCUGGUUUUAUGAUUAAGAACAAAGAGGACAUAGUGUAUAGACUCAAGAAGGCAUUACAUGGACUUAAACAAGCUCCAAGAGCUUGGUAUGGAGAAAUCAAUUCUUACUUCACCAAGGCAGGUUUCCAAAGAAGUCCUACUGAGGCAACACUAUAUGUAAAGGCUGCAGAAGUGGUAUUAUUAUUGUUUCUUUAUAUGUAGAUGAUAUUAUCUGCACUGGAAGCUCAAAAGCCUUGAUGAUGGAGUUCAAAACUGAAAUGAUGAUGCCAUAUGAAAUGACUGAUUUCGGUUUGCUUCAUCAUUUCUUGGGGUUAGGAGUGAUACAAACUGAGCCUUACAUUUUCUUGCACUAGAAGAAGUAUGCUAAAACAUUGCUAGACAAAUUUGGCUUCAAGGAUUGUAAAGCAGUGGCUACUCUUCUUGCAAUGAAUGAAAAGCUAUCCAAUGAAGAUGGAAGUGAACAAGCUGAUGAAGGGGUUUAUAGGCAGAUAGUUGGAAGUCUGUUGUACUUGACUACAACAAGGCCAGACAUCAUGUUUGCAGCAAGUCUUUUGGCUAGAUUUAUGCGUGGACCUACCAGAAAACAUAUGGGAACUGCCAAAAAGGUACUGAGGUACAUUCAAGGCACAUUUGAUUAUGGCAUAGCAUAUGAGAAUGGAAAAGAAGCAAGGCUCAUUGGCUACUGUGACAGUGAUUGGUCAGGGAGUGAGGAUGACAUGAGAAGCACCUCUAGAUAUGCAUUUAAUCUUGGAUCAUGUGUGUUUUCCUGGGCUUCAGUCAAGCAAAGUAGUGUAGCUCUAUCUACUGCAGAGGCAGAGUAUAUUAGUGCAGCAGAAGCUACUGCACAAGCAAUCUGGUUGCGUUUUGUUCUCUCAGACUUUGGUGAAGAACAGGUGGGUGCUACUACAAUUCUAUGUGAUAAUACCUCUGCUAUUGCCAUAACCAAGAAUCCUGUGCAUCAUCAUAAGACAAGGCAUAUAAACAGAAGGUUUCACUUCAUCCGAGAUGCUUUGCAAAAUGGAGAGAUUGAAUUAUUGUAUUGCAAAACUGAAGAGCAGACUGCAUGCAUUUUUACUAAAGCUCUAGCAAGAGAUCGUUUUGAGUACUUGGAAGGAAGCUUGGAGUAAUCUCAACUAAACACUUAGAAGGGAGUGUUGAAAUAUAAGUGUCUUAGCUGAAAUGUUUUUGUACUUAAAAUGUCAGAUCAGGUUGAGGAGACUUUAUAUCUCUAUCCAAUGGACAAAUUUAGGGAGGCACUUGUAGAUUGUAUGCUUUACAUGAUGAAUUUGAUCCUUUUUUGUGAUAAAGGAAGUUUGCUUUGGUGUUACAGACAGAGCAUGGACAAUAUGUUGUUUUGCGUCUUGGUAUGUUUCUAGAUACAUUAAUUCUUGAUAGUUUGAGGACUUUGAUAUAAAUGAAGGCUUCUCUAACGUAACAAUUCAACACUCAAACAUUGGGUAGAACCACAAAGCCAAAGCAUAUAUAUAAAAAAAUAUAUAGAUUAAUAUCUCUUCAUAAAUAUUACAUGCUUUAUGAGUACAAGUUGAAGUCUAUAUUAGUUACAAGAGAAAACAUGAUCGGGUUAAUUUCAAGCAGUUUCUGUAAUCUGUGUUUUUUGGCAACCCGACCACUAAUCCCAAAAACUUCAUCUCAUCAUAUAUCUUACACCACAUGAUGAAGAUGUUGAAUCAUAAAUUCCUGUUGGUUUAAGUUUUAUUUUACAGAUGUAAUAUUUUGGUUGGAUGAAACUUAUAUGACUCAUAUUUAAGACAAGUGUCCAGCUUACAUUGCUAGAUCAAUUGUAGGCUAAUAUCACAUUCUCAGCAUUGUAAAAAGGAAUGGUUCCGUUAGAAAUGAGAGUACUGUGCACUACCAUGUUUUGUGCAUAGCAACGAACCUUUGAGCAUGACUGAGUAGCCAAUCCAUUCUUUCUCUGCAUUUUUCUGUUUUCUUCAAUUCAUCUGGUUUUGUGUGAGCUGAUGCAUUGUGUGUGCAAGUUCUGAUUGAAAUCUCAACAUGGUAUUAGAGCCAGGUUCGACUCUGCAUCUGGGCGUCGUGAAAUCAGAAUCGAAGAAAUCCAACGUAGAUAACCUCUAUCUCGUGGGUUUGGUCUCAUAUGGCUGGAUCUGGAAUGAGUGAGCUUUCGUGCUCCCAUUUUCAAUGGCAACAACUACGAUUUUUGGAGAAUCAAGAUGUGUACGAUUUUCAAAUCUCACAAGCUCUGGGAUAUGGUAGAAACUGGGUUUGAACAACUAGUGAAGAAGGAGGAUAGUGAAGCUCUGACUACAGCUCAGAAGCUUGCACUGGAGGAAAAUGUAGCAAAGGAUGCUAAGGCGUUGGGUCUGAUUCAGAGUGAAGUCUCUGAUAAAAAUUUUCCCAGAAUCGCUCUACAAGAAUUUGCCAAAGCAGCUUGGGAGAUUUUGCAACAGGAAUUUCGAGGAGAUAAGAAGGUAUGAUCUAUAAAAUUGCAAGCACUUAGAAGGGAUUUUGAAUAUACUCGUAUGCAAGAUGAUGAGUCUCUAUCUAGGUAUAUAACCAAAUUGCUUGAGCUUAUAAAUCAAAUGAAGUCUUAUGGAGAGGAUAUUUCUGAUCAAAGAAUCGUACAGAAACUUUUGAUUAGUUUAUCUAGAGAAUAUGAUUCUAAUGUAGAGGUGAUAGAGGAGACCAAAGACACAGAGACUACAGGAGUUCAGGAGGUUAUUGGAUCUUUGAAAUCCCAUGAACAACGGUUGCAAAGACACACUGAGAAACUGACAGAAAAGGCUUUCUCUAGCCUAGGUGUGAACCCCAUAGAGCAGUCAAAUGCUGCAUAAGAUAGGAGUUCUAAGUCCAAGAAGAAUUGGAAAUCAUAAAACAAGAAGAAAUGGGAGGGGAAGUCUGGAAAUACUUUCAAAAAGGAAAAUCAGAAUGAAGGAGCUAAGGGUUCUAGCAAAAUCUGUGAUAAAUUGCAUUAUGGUUUGUUGGUUCAAGGGUAAACCUAAAUGUUAUAAGUGUGAAAGGUUUGGUCACUUGGCAAAGGAUUGCUGUGGGAAAACACCUCAGGCAGCUCAUUUUGCAAAACACAUGGAGGAAGAAGGGACAAUGCUCUAUGCUUGUCAUGCUGCCUCUGUAAUCAAGAACAGUAGUGUGUGGUAUGUGGAUAGUGCUUGUAGCAAGUAUAUGACCUCACAUGAAUCUCUGCUCAUUGAUAUAGACACCAAUGUCACUGCAAAAGUGAAGAUGAGAACUGGAGAUCCUGUUCAAGCCACUGGUAAAGGCACUCUAGUGAUUGAAACGAAAUUUGGACCAAGGCAUAUAAAGGAAGUCAUGCUUGUACCAGGGUUGGAUGAGAAUCUGCUUAGUGUUGGAUAGAUGAUUGAGCAUGGAUAUUUCUUGCUCUUUGGUGAUUCUAUAGUGGAGAUAUAUGAUGGCAAGUCACUGAAACACCUUGUGACUAAGGUUCCAAUGACUGGAAACAGAUGUUUUCCUCUCUCCCUUCAGUAUGCAAAUGCAGUAGCUAUGAAGGCAAUGUUGGCGUGACUUGUGGAUAUUGACUUACUUUCCUUAUACACCAAGAUUUCCUAUUAUAAUUGUAAUUGAUUUACUUUAAUUCAUGAUUUCCUACUGUAAAUAGAUUUAGGAAUUUAUUUUUUACUUGCCCAUUCAGGUUUCGUUGUAUUAUAAAUAUUACCUCAUAGAAGGAGAAGAAUACAAAGAAAAUUCCCACAAACAAAUAUUCUCUCAUAGUUUUCAUAUUUUAGCAUGGUAUCAGAGUAGCGAUCUUGGGAUUGCUGACUCUAGUUUCUAAACCCUAGCAGCCACCAUGAGGGAGGAUGACUCUUCUAACCCUCAUGGCGGUAGCACCAUUACUUCCUUCUCAACUAACCAUAGCCGAGUUGAGUGCCCACGUGGCUCAACUAAUGCAGAUGCAGACUCAGACCUCGAACUCGAUCCUAAAUCAGGAUCCUACUAAGGCGACCUCGACCUUGUCUCAGACGACGACCCCGAACUCGAGCCUUGAACCCGAAUCAGACAACAAUUCUGACGACAAUUACCUAUGAAGCUUCUGCUACACAGAUUGGCAUAAAGUUGGAUGGCACCAACUAUGCCCUAUGGUCCAAGGUUGUUGAGUUGUAUAUCUCUGGCAAAGACAAAUUGGGAUAUAUUAAUGGCGAUCUUCCACAACCUCAUUCGACUGCUCCAACGUUUCCUCGCUAGCGCACUGAGAACUCUAUUGUGAAGGGAUGACUCAUCAAUUCUCUGGAGCAGAGCUUGAUUGGCAAUUUCAUUGGUUUCCAACGGCAAAAGCAGUGUGGGAUGCAAUUGCCACAACUUACUAUGAAGACACUAACACCUCUCAGGUUUAUGAUCUGAAAUGACGAGUCUCCCGUAUGCGACAAGUUGGCGGCUCCAUUGAAACCUAUUACAAUACUCUCCAAAGAUUAUGGAGAGAGAUUGAUUUCCGUCGUCCAAAUAUGAUGGAGUAUGAAAGUGAUAUCAAGCGCUAUAAUGAUAUUCUGCAAGAAGAUCGAGUUUACAUAUUUUUGGAUGGCCUUGAUAAUCGUCUUGAUAAGGCCCGAAGUGAUGUUCUUCACAUGACUCCAUUCCCUACUGUGGACCAAGCUUAUGCCUAUGUUCGCCGUGAAGAUGUUCGACAAGCAGUGAUGAUGGGUUCAUCUACACCCACUGGCGCUUGCUUAGCGACCAAGAGUGCACCUCGAUCAGGUCCCCCUACUCAUGCCGGACAGCCCCAUAAUUCCUUUACUGCGGCCCACCUUCAGAUCCAGUCAUAUGCUACUGCUGCUGGUGCGCCACCUCCUAAAACCAUCCCACAUUCCCGUCCCAAGGCUCCGACUGAUGGAAGUGGUUGCACGCACUGUGGCAACCCUAAACAUACCCGUGACACCUAUUUUAAGCUGCAUGGUUAUCCUGAUUGGUGGGAGGACCUCCGUGCUCGCAAGCUCAGAGAAACUGCUAGUAAUUUCGACCGUGCCACUCUUGUCUCUACCGAACCCCAAUUAGCAUUGUUCCCGCUGGUAGACCCUACUAAUAGUCCGACGCAUCCGGAUGUCUCAGGUAACUGUGGUUAUGCAUUUCAUACAUCUAGUCUACGAGAUACUAUUGGUUGGAUAAUUGAUUCUGGCGCCACUGAUCAUAUGACCUUUGAUCCGAAUGAUUUUUUGCACACCACUACAUCCCGCCGCACAAGUAUUGCCAAUUUGAAUAAAGUUACCUAUCCUGUGACAGGGAUCAACACUGUCGCCCUUUCACCUUCUCUGUCCCUUUCUAAUACUCUACUCGUUCCAUCUUUGUCUAAUAAAUUAAUGUCUGUGAGCCAAGCAACUGAACAACUAAAUUGUUAUGCACUGAUUUAUCCCAAUUUUUGUUUACUACAGGAUAUUCUCACCAAGGAGAUCAUUGGGCGUGGUACUAAAAGAAGGGGGCUGUACUAUGUGGAUGACUUCAGUAUGGGACAUGCCAACAGUGUGAAGCAUCCGUCUGAUGACAAGCACCGACAGAUUUGGCUCUGGCACCGACGUUUGGGGCAUCCAUCUUUUGGUUAUAUGAGACACUUAUUGCCCGAGUUGUUUUCUGUAUUAAGGACUCAGAUUUUAAAUGUGACACUUGCAUUUUAGCCAAAAGUCACUGAGCAUCCUAUCCUUUAAGUAUGAAUAAAAGUACUAUUUAUUUUGCUUUAAUUCAUUCUGAUGUUUGGGGACCUUUACCUAUUUCUACUCAUUCCGGUAUUCAUUGGUUUGUCACAUUCGUCGAUGAUUGUACACGGAUGACAUGGCUUUAUUUGAUGAAAAAUAAGAAUGAAGUGUUUUCCCUGUUCCAAUCCUUUCACAAACAGAUGGAAACACAGUUCAAUGCUCGAAUACAGAUUCUUCACUCUGACAACGGUGGAGAAUUUGUUAAUCAUGAUUUUCAGACUUACUUUUAGACACAUGGCAUUAUUCAUGAGAUAACUUGCCCUCAGACACCACAACAAAAUGAUGUUGCCGAACGGAAGAAUCGUCAUCUCCUUGAAACAGGCUGUGCUCUUCUCAUUUGUGGCCAUGUUCCUCGUCAUCACUGGGAUGAUGCUGUCGUCACUGCUGUCCAUCUUAUCAACCGCAUGCCUUCUGGGGUCUUGAACUUCAAAACUCUAUUACAAGUGCUAGCGCAACAAGGGUUUCUGCCCUCUGUUUUGGUGCUUACCCCUCGUAUUUUGGUUGUGUGGCCUUCGUUCAUCUCCACAAAAAUCAAUGAAGCAAACUUGAUCCAUGUGCACUUCGUUGUGUUUUUUUGGGUUAUGCCACUCAUCAGAAAAGCUACCGAUGUUAUCACCUUCCUACCCGGCAAACCUAUGUCACUUUGGAUGUCACCUUUCUAGAAUCGGAGAUGUUCUUCUAUGACCCAUCAUCCAAUUCUGCUCUUCAGGGGGAGAUACAGAGUGAAGAGCUUAAUUGGAGCAGCUUGGAAAACGAAGAUAUUCAUCUAUGCACGAAGAUUGCUCUCGACCAAGAAGCAAUAACAAUCGAUUGUCCCGACUCUGGCACGUGCGAAUGCUCUCUGCCAAACAUCGAUCAAUCGCCUAACCCUUGCGAAGCUGUUUUUGAUUCAAGUUAUACUCUUACGGACAACUCAGAACAACAAGAUGAAGACCCUCCAUUCUCACUCAAUAGUACCGACGGACCAAUCUCCUGAGAAUAUCUUUGAGGUAACUGCUCCUACUAGACUUGUGCAUUUAGAUGAUAAAACUAUUGGAUAUCAAUUACCUUUCAGGCAAAAUCGUGGGAAGCCACCAAACCAUUAUUCACCUGAUAUUGGCAAUACAUCCAAGUAUCCAAUUGCAAAUCAUGUAUCCACUAAUAAGCUGUCUGAACCACUCAAGGCUUUUGUGCAUCAGUUGUCUGCUAUCCAUAUUCCAACCAAGGUCUCUGAAGCAUUGAAAGAUCCUAAGUGGGUCCAAGCUAUAAAAGAGGAGAUGAAAGCUUUUAAGAAAAAUCAGACUUGGACAUUGGAAACUAUACCACGAGGAAAAAAGACUAUCGAAUGUAGAUGGGUGUUUACUAUAAAACACAAUGCAUAUAGAUCUAUCAAGCGACACAAGGCAAGAUUUGUGGCAAAAGGGUACACACAGACCUAUGGUAUAAACUAUGAAGAAACCUUUGCACCAGUUGCAAAGUUAAACACCAUCAGAGUCUUAUUGUCCCUUGCAGCUAAUUUGGAUUGGCCACUACAUCAGUUUGAUGUCAAGAAUGCUUUUCUACAUAGCGAACUCACGGAGGAGGUGUACAUGGACAUUCCUCCUGGAUAUAAUACUACUCAGACUGGAACAGUUUGCAGGUUACGAAAAGCAUUGUAUGGAUUGAAACAGUCAUCACGUGCAUGGUUUGGACGGUUCACCAUGGCAAUAAAGAACAAUGGUUUCAAACAGUGCAACUCAGAUUAUACUCUAUUCUUGAAACAUAGGAAAGGGAAGGUAACAUCAUUAAUAAUCUAUGUUGAUGAUAUGAUUAUUACUGGGAAUGAUAAACAGGAAAUAUCACAGCUACAAGACUAUUUGGCUACUGAGUUUGAGAUGAAGGAUCUAGGUGGAUUCAAGUAUUUCUUAGGAAUUGAGGUGGCUCGAUCGCAGCAAGACAUAUUUCUCUCACAAAGGAAAUAUGUCUUGGACUUGUUGACAGACACAUGAAUGCUAGAUUGCAAACUUGCGGACACUCCUAUUGUUCAGAAUCAUCAUCUUGGAGAAUAUCCGGAUCAAGUUCCAACUAACAAAGAAAGAUACCAAAGGUUAGUUGGAAGAUUGAUCUAUUUGUCAUAUACUUGACCAGACUUUGCUUAUGCGGUAAGCGUUGUCAGUCAAUUUAUGCAAUCUCCAAGUGAAGACCACAUGAAUGCAGUUCUUCGGAUACUUAGAUAUUUGAAGUAUGCACCUGAAAAAGAACUUAUGUUCUCAAAGCAUGGUCAUCUAAAUAUUGAUGGUUAUUCAGAUGCAGAGUGGGCAGGUAAUAUAAUAGAUAGAAAAUCCACAUCAGGUUACUUCACAUUCGUGAGAGGUAAUUUGGUGACAUGGAGGAGCAAGAAACAGAAUGUAGUAGCUUUGUCCAGUGCAGAAGCCGAGUUCAGAGGCAUGACUAAAGGGAUUUGUGAACUUCUUUGGUUAAGAAAGUUGCUUACUGAACUUGGGUAUAAACCUACAUUCACAAUGAAUCUCUUUUGUGACAACAAGGCUGCUAUAGCUAUUGCACAGAAUCCGGUUCAGCAUGAUCGUACUAAACAUGUUGAGGUGGAACAACACUUUAUCAAACAGAAGCUUGAGGCUAAAGUGUUUCAGUUUUCUUUUGUGAAAUCCGAAGAUCAAUUGGCGAAUAUUUUGACAAAGACGAUUUCCAAUAAAGCAUUCCACAAUUCACUGGAUCAGUUAGGCAUUGGGAACAUCUAUACACCAACGUGAGGGGGAGUGUUGGCGUGACUUGUGGAUAUUGACUUACUUUCCUUACACACCAAGAUUUCCUAUUAUAAUUGUAAUUGAUUUACUUUAAUUCCUGAUUUCAUAUUGUAAAUAAAUUUAGGAAUAUAUUAUUUACUUGCCCAUUCAGGUUUCGUUGUAUUAUAAAUAUAACCUCCUACAAGGAGAAGAAUACAAAGAAAAUUCCCACAAACAAAUAUUCUCUCAUAGUUUUCAUAUUUUAGCAGGCAACAAUUAAAGAAACUACAUGGUGUUGGCAUAGAAGAUAUGGUCAUCUAAAUUUUCCUAACUUGAGAAUGUUAUAACAAAAAGAAUUGGUGUAUGGACGGCCUGAAAUUGGUGACUUAGAGAAGGUGUGUCAAGGUUGUGCAAUGGGAAAAUCACACAGAGAGGCAUUCGAUAAAGAGAAGGCAUAGAGAGCAAGCAUGCCACUAGAGCUCAUACACUCAGAUGUGUGUGGACCAAUGCAAUCCACAACCAUUGGAGGUAACAGAUACUUCCUAUCCUUCACUGAUGAUUGCACAAGAAUGUGUUGGGUAUACUUCAUGCAACACAAGUAUGAAGUAUUCAACAUCUUCAAGAAAUUCAAAGCCAUGGUGGAAUUACAGAGUGGAUACAAGAUUAAAAGGCUCAGAAGUGACAGAGGUGGGGAAUACACCUCAACUGAAUUUUUGAAGUUUUGUGAGCAUGUAAGAUUGGAAAGGCAGUUAACUAUAGCCUAUUCACCUCAGCAAAAUGGGGUAGCUGAGAGAAAAAAUAGAACUAUUGUGGAAAUGAGUAAAGCAAUGAUGCAUGAGAAGAGGCUACCUUAUAAGUUUUGGGGAGAGGCAGUGAACAGGGCUGUCUACAUUCAAAACUGAUGUCCAACAACAGCUCUAAAUGAUUCAACUCCAUUUGAAGCAUUUAGUGGUAGGAAGCUUGGAAUUAAGCACCUGAGGGUAUUUGGCUGUAUGUGUUACUGUCAUGUGCCUAGUCAGUUGAGGCUCAAAUUGGAUGAUUCGGCAACCAAGUGUAUCUUUAUUGGUUAUGGUAAGUGUGAGGAGGGCUAUAGAGUUUACAACUUGCAAACUCACAAAAUUAUUGUUUCUAGGAGUGUAAUAUUUGAUGAAGAUGCAUUAUGGGAUUGGGGAAAACAUGAUGUGGAGCAUGUUUUUGUUCCUAUAAGUUUUGAGGAAAAUCCUAGAACCACUGAAGAAGAAGAUGAAGUCACAGGUUCACCUACAACAGAAUCUUAGAUUGAAAGUGGCUCAGGUUCAACUAGUGCCAGUUCACAAAGUGCAUCACCAAGUUCUACUCCUGUGAAACUAAGAGAUAUAGCUGAGAUCUAUCCUAGAUGCAAUAUGAGCAUCAUUGAGCCAGAAAAUUAUGAAGAAGCUUCAAAAGAUAAAGCUUGGCAGAAAGCUAUGGAGGUUGAAAUGGAUAUGAUUGAUAAAAAUGAGACAUGGGAAUUGGUAAACAGACCAAUUUAAAUGGGUUUAUAAAACUAAGUUAAAUCUUGAUGGUUCAAUACAGAAACACAAAGCUAGGCUGGUGGUCAAAGGUUAUGCACAAAAGCCUGGAAUUGACUUCAAUGAAACUUUUGCUCCUGUUGCCAGAUUAGACACCAUUAGAACUCUUAUUGCAUUGGCAGCUCAAAAGGGGUGGAAGUUGUAUCAAUUGGAUGUCAAGUCUGCUUUUCUGAAUGGUGUGCUUAAGGAAGAAGUAUAUGUGGACCAGCCAGAUGGUUUUGUGAUUAAGAACUCUAAAGACAAAGUGUACAAACUAAAGAAAGCUCUGUAUGGUCUAAAACAGGCGCCAAGAGCAUGGUAUGAGGAAAUAAAUUCGUAUCUUAUUGACUGCGGUUAUACAAGGAGCUCUAGUGAAGCAACUCUCUAUUGCAAGACCAAGGAAAACUCUAGAACACUCAUUGUAUCGAUAUAUGUUGAUGAUAUAGUGUAUACAAGAAGCAGUGAAGAAUUGAUUGCAGAUUUUAAGUCUGAGAUGAUGAGAAGGUAUGAAAUGACUAACUUCGGUCUUUUGUAUCAUUUUCUUGGUAUGGCUGUGAUUCAAAUUGAAAAGAGUAUUUUCAUAAGUCAAAAGAAAUAUGCUUUGACUAAGCAAGUUUGGCUUAAAACAAUGUAAACCUGUUAGCACUACUCUGGUGGCAAGUGAGAAAUUAUGCAAAGCUGAUGGAAGUGAUCCAACAAAUGAGAAUGAAUAUAGGCAAAUUGUGGGAAGUUUGUUGUACUUAACAGCUACAAGGCCUGACAUAAUGUUUGCAGCUAGCUUAUUAGCUAGAUUCAUGCAUUGUCCUAAAAGAAACACUAUGGAACAACUAAGAGGGUGUUGAGGUAUAUCAAAGGCACAAUUGAUUAUGGUAUUGAAUACCAGAAGGGAAAAGAAGUUGUAUUAAUUGGAUACUGUGACAGUGACUGGAGUGGGAGUCAAGAUGACAUGAAGAGCACUUCUGGAUAUGCUUUCUCAUUUGGAAGUGGAGUGUUCUCUUGGGCAUCUGUCAAGCAACCCAGUGUUGCUCUCUCCACAGCUGAAGUUGAAUAUGUUAGUGCAAAUGAAGCUACUACUCAAGCUAUAUGGUUGAGGUUUGUGCUUGAAGACUUUGGAGAAUUGCAGACAGAGGCAACUCCAUUAAUGGUAGAUAACACCUCUGCCAUUGCAAUGACAAGGAAUCCAGUUUUCCAUCAAAAGACCAAACACAUUAACUGCAUAUACCAUUUCAUUCGAGAUGCUUUGCAAGAAGGUGUGGUGGAUCUAAGAUACUGCAAGUCUGAAGAGCAAGCAGCUGACAUAUUCACUAAAGCUUUGUCUAAGGAUCGAUUCAAUUACUUAAGAGGUCUACUUGGUGUUAAACCAGUCAACAAUUUAGAAGGGAAUGUCGAAUUAUAAAUUCCUGCUACUUUAGGUUUUAUUUUACAGAUGUAAUAUUUUGGUUGGAUGAAACUUAUAUGACUCAGAUUUAAGACAAGUGUCCAGCUUACAUUGCUGGAUCAAUUGUAAGGCUGAGAUCACACUCUCAACAUUGUAAAAAGGAAUGGUUCCGUUAGAAAUGAGAGUAUUGUGCACUUCCAUGUUUUGUGCAUAGCAACGAACCUUUGAGCAUUACUGAGUUGCCAAUCCAUUCUUUCUCUGCAUUUUUCUGUUUUCUUAAAUUCAUCUGGUUUUGUGUGAGCUGAUGCAUUGUGUGUGCAAGUUCUGAUUGAAAUCUCAACAGAAGAGGCAGAAAUAAGUAGAGUAGGGAGAUAAUUAUACAGGGGUGCAAGCUUAUUAUACGUACAAUGCUAAGUGAUGAUCAUGCAGAUUUGUGGUUCGGAACCCAGGCAAUAGCAUCUGUGGAAAGGAAAUGGCAGAUGGGAAUGGUUCCGGGCUUAACUUUGAGGAUUUGGAAGGCCAAAUGCUUUGGGUUCCAUUCUGAUGUGUCUAGAUGGCAGAUGGUUACUGCUUUAACCUUCACCCCAUCAUCGCCUUUCAGGGAGAGAACAUAAGCUGCUGUCUGUUUUAUUGCAUGGCAGAAAAACACAGCAUAGGGAUAGUUCUCCUUAUGACACACAACGACUUUGUCACCUGCCAACUUCUUCAGUCCCGGCAUUGUUGUAUACUUGUGCAUGGACAUGGUGGCUCCUUUUUCCAAUACCUCAGUCGAGAUUGCUUGAACGUUUCUUGUUCUAAGCUUGGAAGUGCUAAAAUCAACCAUUGAUUCUAAAGAUGUGGCGCAAUAUCUUUCCUCUCCCUUAAUGCCUGGAGCUUCACACUCUUCGAUUGUUUUCUUAAUUGUUUUGGCUUCCACAGAUGUUGGCUUCACUGAAAAAUGGUUGAAAAUUUCUGAUAGUUUGUUAGAGGAGAAGGGGAUCGAUUGAGCACUUUCACGUGGCAGGAAAGUAGCCGUGUUUGAAUUUCUAGUGAAUUGGAAGUUCAUUGUUGCGCCAAGGCGCAUGUCCUUCCCCAAGAAGAAAAUAGUCAUGUUUUUAUAAUAUUGGAGUUGAUUGUCAGAAUUAGGAACUCCUGCAUACUGUACUUGAAUUGUGUAUCCGCUAAACAAUGCCUUCAUUUUAGGUUUGCCGUUGUGGUCCGUUGGCUUUCCAUUCCCAACAGCAUUCAUGAUAUUUGUGCUCUUUUCUUCAUUUGUGGAGUCUGAAAAUUAUAUAUCAACGUCAUAAUGGAAAAUAAGUGAUCAGCCGAUUGAAGAGUCAGUGAGACAUUUGUGAAUAUGUUGCCGUACGUACUCUAGUACCAUACUAUAAUUACUCAUGUAGAGGUUAAUAAUAAAUUGGAAAACAGUAGUUAACCGAUAAAUAUGUGGUCGAACAAAUUUUAGUAAAAUGGCAGGUAGAAAAAAUAUCUAAGAUUCUAAAGUGAUUAACACAAACCAGGAUGCAGAAGUUCACUGAUAGUUCUUGGCAUCUGUGUGUUUGGCAGGACGGAGUUCCAGUAAAGUUGAGCUGCUGGUUGAGCAGCAUGGUUUGCCAGUGCCACCGCUGCUAGCUGCAACAUUAAUUCGAACUCAAAUUAAAAUCAAAUCACAAAGUGUAAUUAAUUAGUGGACGACACUUUCGGAGAGGAUUAUAUAGAGUACAGUGAGAGAGAAUGGAAAAGUUAAUCAAAUUGCAAAGCUUACACUGAGAAUAGCAAAGAUGAGUGGGAGAUGAAACCCCAUUAGGACUGAAAUUAACUUGGCAACAGAUGUAGCUAGUGGAUAUGAAGCAAGAAAUUAAAGAAAGUCGGAGCUGGCUCUUAUAGUAACAGUAGCAACUGGCUUCACCAUUUUAUGGACGAAUGAUGAGGGGUACCCAGAAGUAACACUCCACCCACCAAUAAUAGAGCUUAAUUACUUCCCACUGCCUCACUCACUUAAAUUCAUUUGAGGCAAGUGGCAUGAUGUGAUGUAUCAGACAUAAUACAUGGUUAAUCAUAAUGGACGCAAGUGAUUAAAUUUGAGAUAAUAUUGAAAAUAAUAAUACACAAUAGGUUUUCAAUCGAGAGGGGGUGGAGAGCUCACUAGGACUUGAAAACAAAAAAAAAAUAUGUCCAUAUAUAAUUAAAGGGUACAAUUUCUGCUUUAUUAAUUUUACUUGAUUUUCCGUGGUUCAGAAAAUUCCCAGAAAACAAAAGAUUUUAUAAAUCCAGCGAACCAUGUUUGGCCUACACAUAUUGGUCUUGUGGUGUAGGUGGUGGCUAAGGUGAUAAGUAUUCCGCAGCCUCCCCUGCAUUACUCCAUUUUCUGUCUUCUUCAUUGUCUCCCAAUUGUGAUGAACAGCCAAAGAUGUCUGCCAGUUGUGGAUAUGGUUUUCGUCUUGAAAGAAACCCAAAUAAAAAAAUUUCAAAUUAAGGUAUAUAAGAUGAUCUACAAUCAUGCUCCCUAUUUUUUAGUUAAAUUUAGCUAAAAACACACAAAAGCUAUUUUAGGAGCUCUUUAUAAAAUUUGAACUCCAAUCAUACUCCCUAGUUUAGAGAAUCAUAAAUACUUAAAUUAUUUUUUAAUUCAAUAUAAUUGGUUCAUCUGUCUACAAAAUAAUAUAAAAAAAUAAUUUGAUUUAAUUAAAAAUUUAAAAUAUGCAUAAAACAAAGCAACAUUAAAUUAUAGGGAGUCAAUAAAAGUCAUUUCUCUCUCCUCAGAUUUAGGAGCUCCUAGAGGUCCCCUUAUUUUAGGAGGUGGAUAGGGAGCAUGGUUGGAGUUAUACUUUUCCAAUUCCUCCCUAAAAUUUGUCUAAGGAGAUGGUUUAGAGAGCUCAUUGUGGAUGAUACUUAACCAAUUAAAGAAACCCAAAAAUCUUCAGUAUGACGUAACAUAUGUUGUCCACAUCACUCAUGUUUUACCAGAGUUAGAGCAUUCUAUUGUGAAUUUUAGACAACCUGAAAAAUGGAGAUUAUAAAGAUUAGUCUAAAUACAAAUUAUACUCGCAAGUGCACAAGGUCAAUCGUAAUAUAGUACUGGCUAAUACGAGGCCAUUCCCACGAGGAUUGAGUUCAACUUCCAAUUAGUCCAACCUAAUUUACUUCACAAAAUAUUUUAACUACUCUAAUUAUAUAAACAAGAAAGGGUUAAUGACCUAAAUGGUCCCCCAACUAUCGCUCCAGUACCAUUUUGGUCCACCAACUAAAAUUUUCAUUUCAAACGUCCUUAAACUUUUUAUUUUGUACUAAGAGGGUCCUUUCGUCAAAGUCUGUGUAUUAUUCCGUUAAAUCGAGGGACAAAACCGUAUUUUUAGGUGAGUAUCCUCUUCUAAAACGACCAAGCCACUAUAGUAUCGCAUUCCCUCCCAUUUAUGUUAGAAGCUCCACCAAAAACCCCAAAUUAGAACCCUAGGUUUGCAAUUUCGGAGAUUUCAACGUCAGAGAUUUCAACGACCUCAAGUGGGACGAGUCGGUACUGCGCCUAUGGGACGAAGAUAAUUCGUCGGACUUCGUGGACAGAUUUGAACCCAGGAAGAAGGUUCGAUGCUUGUGAUAAAAAUUGGGUAAUUUAUUAUUUGGGUUGCAAAAGUUGUUCUUUUCCAUUUGUAAUUGCUUGAUGAGGUUUGAAAUUUGGUAAGAUUUGAUUUGCCAGAAUAGCAGAAGAGGUAUGCAUUAUUUCGAGUGGGUGGAUAAUGAAACUUGUCCAAGAGGAAAACAAGUGGUCCCUGGUUUGCUUAGAAGACUUAGAGCAACGAAGGAGGAAGGUAGAGCAAAGGAAGAACAAUUGAGAGCUGUGGAAGCAAAAAAGAAAGAACUGCAGCAUAAAUUGCAAGAAAUGGUUCAGGAAAAAAAGGUUUUUGAAUGGGGUCAUGGCAAAGACAAUUCAUAAUAUGGGUUUCCUUGAUUUUGUCUUGGGGUUUGUUUAUAACAUUUGUGAUGAGUGGGAAGUUGUAAUUGUUAUGGGGUUUGUUCCUUUGAAUGUAAAGGUUCUGAAAUGUGCAUUAGUGUUUUGCAAUAUGCAUUAGUGUUAUGAAAUUUUCUUGAAUUGAGGUUAUUUGAAUAUCUGGGAGAUGCCAUUCCAUUGAGUAUAACAAAUUAAAAGCCAUUCCAUUCUUGACCACACAGGCAAUUUACAAAAUGAACAUCCAUAUAAACAUUCGAAUUCCAAUUACAUAGUUUGAGCCCAUGAAACUGAAGACCAGUUAGACCAAUUAUAGAAUUCCAAUUACAAAAUGCACCUGCCUAAAAAAGUACAUAAGCCAAAACAGACAACCAAUUACACAGUUUGAGCUGUUCUAGCUCAAAACCAAGGACACAAAGUACACAAAAUCCUCAUGCCCAAAAAAGUACCUAACCCAAAAUAGGCAAGCAAUUACAUAGUUUUAGCCCUCAAACUCAAAACCAAUUACACAGUCUAAAGUCAGAAUCAGUCCCUUUUGUCACAAAAUCCCUCUGGCCAGAAAAUUACAUAUCCCAAAAUACACAAAAUACGACAGCCUUAGCAAUAAUUUCCCCUAUAUUGAGGCCAUGCUAUUAUCUUGGGAAAUGUUGUCCAAAGUUGGUCCUCCUUGUCCCCUUCCUCUUGCCACCUAAACAAUGUAGUAAUGUCAGGUGUAUAAUAGUUGAAAAUUGGCAAUUAGUGAAAUGAAUAAGAAAAUUGGCAAUGGUGGAAGAGUGGUAACAAUACGAAUAAGCAGAUUAAUAUCUAAGUAUGUUCAAGCUUCCUUGAGCUGCAGGAAACUUAAGCAGUAGUUUCAAGAAAUGGAUAAUCAGUGUAACCAAUUACCGGAUCAGAUGUAUAGAAUGUCUCUCGGUUGUACUUAUUUAGAGGAGCAUUAAGCUCAAAUCUCUUGGGAAAAUCUGGAUUAGCCAAGAACAAACGUCCAUAAGCAAUAAGAUCUGCACGACCCUCUGCCACAGCAUUGUUCCCAUCUUCCCUGUCAAAACCACCAGCAGCAAUGAAGGUACCUUUAAAAGCUUCUCUCAUGGGCAGAAGACUGUAAGGGGUUUCACUUUUGUCUCCAACUGUCUUCAUUCUUGGCUCAACCACAUGGCAGUACAGGAUCCCGUAUUUGUUCAAGGAUUUGGCCAUAUAAAGGCCUAAUGCUUUCGGAUUCGAAUACCCUGAUUCCAUAUAGUCUGCAAAUGGUGAUAAUCUAAUUCCAACUUUAUCUGCUCCUAUCUCAUUAGCAACAGCUUCAACGAUUUCCAGAGCAAACCGGCAACGAUUCUCCAGCGAUCCACCAUAUUCAUCUGUUCGAUCGUUCACUUGGUCUUUCAUAAACUGAUCAAUCAGGUAGCCAUGAGCCCCAUGAAUUUCAACCCCAUCAAAGCCUACAUAUCACACAAGCAUUUUCUAAUGUAUUUUUAUUUAUUUUUAAUUCAUUUUUUGUUUCAAUGUCGCCCCUUGUGCCUUGAAUCGGGUAAUAGUAAUUUAUGUGAUAAUAUUUAUCCAUUUAUGACGUUUGUCAUUGAAUAGAAAAGGAAAAUAUCGCAAACAGAUCCCAGAGAGCAUUUAAAGCCCCCUCCUUCACUGUGCCAAACAUAAAGCUUCCAAAAGAAAAUCCGUGGCAAAAAUUCUAUAUAUACUAAAACCCAAUGCAACUAAAUACUGUAGCUAAGCACAGUAAAUUUAAGAAAAUGCCUUUAUUUUAAACUGUUCAGUCAGCUUUUUCUCUCCCUUUGCACAGUAAAAUUGCGAUUUUGCCCUUGGCUAAUUGUUUUGUGUUUUUCCCGUUUUGCCCUCUCUUUCCUUGGGAUGUAACUAGCGGCUGUUUAGGGUUGAGAGGCGUCUGGCUGGAUUUCAACUAGCUGGUUGGAGAGCUUCAAGGGUAAAAUGGGAGAGGUGUUGGUUCUUCGAUGUCUACAUCUGGAGUCUUUUACUGUUUUACACAGCCAUAGUUCACCGACUUCAGUUUUGGCUUCCAUUCUUCACCGACUUCCUUGCUUUCUUCUCUUUCGAUUCGAAGAUCAAUUUCCAUCUAAACUCAUCUCCGUCUGCUGCUCGCCUGGCCUUGGCCUCUGAUCAGGUUAGCCUCUUAAUGGUUCAUGAAACUAUAGUGAAGUAUCUGAAAUUCAAUUUGGUUUAACGAUAUACCAAUUUAAAUUUCUCUAUCUGAUUAAUAUCAUAGUUUGAGAUGUGCAACAGAUUUCUUAGGUUCCGACUUCUGAUCUCUUUGCACGAUGUGAUUGUUAGUUAACCCAAAACAUCCUUUUAGUUAUUGAGUUUUGCUGAUGUGAUAAGGCCCCUUAAAACCAAUAUCUCCCUCUUUAUUGAGUUUUCAGUGGAUAAAUUUUGCUCAUAGUUUUCUUCAAUUGCGUUUAAUUGAAUCUUAAUUAAUAAGCAUGUGUUUUUAUUUAAUAUAUCUGUGUGUUUUAAUGUGCAAAGGGUCGUGUUUUCAGGUGAUUUUAUCAUUAAGAUGCCAAUGUUGACUGCUCCAAGUACAAUUGUUAGCUCGCCUCUAUUGCCAACAGGUAUUUUAUGAGUACCCAUUGCUAAGUUUCUGUGAUUUUUUUAAGAUAAUAAUACUAAUGAUUGAUUUGAUUGGAAGCUACAGAUUUUGAAAUGAGGUAUUUCUUCCAUCAGUUUGUGUUUUCAUUGUUUACCGACUUCCUUGCCUUCGUCUUUUUCAUCGCUAUGAUCUUCCUCUUAUCUUCCAAGGUGCUCACUUUCCGACUCACUUGGGUUCUAUCAGGAAGGGGAUUGAAUCUCACAGAUUAGCUCAGGUAUUUCCAUUGUUCUUAUUAUUAAUUUUUUUAAUCAAUUGUCGAUUCAAUGACUUUGCUCUCUUGGAGAAAUCUUAGAAAUGGAAAUCAUUCCCAAUUUCUGUUUUGGUUGCCAAUAAAACAGUGGAAAGCAAAGACCAAGGGUGCUUGAAGAAAAAAAAAAUUCCUUUUUUAAUCUGUUUUUGGUUGCUGUAUCCUAAAUAUGGAGAAAAAAAAAUUAAUGAUAAAACACAAGGAAAAAAGAAGUGAAGAUUAAUCAUGUUUCGACAAAAUAGAAUUGGGUGCUUUAUUCUUUUUGGGCUUAACUUUUCUCAUAGAUUGCUUGCACUUGAGGGCAUUCCCCCGCAUGUUAUUGUUUUAAUGCUUUUGUCCUCUGUUGGGUCAUUUGGGUUGGUGUCAUUUUACAUUGCUAACCUUAUGUUUGUAUAUAUUGCUUGAAUUUCAGCUGCACCCAGAAAACUAUCUGAGAAGAUAAUCUGCAGAGCAAGGAAUUUGCAAUCUAUUGAGGUUAAGUAUCUUUGAAACCACUCCAAUGACCUCCUCUCCUUUGAGUUGUAGUUUCAUUUAAGUUGCCAAAAACUCCUGCAGUAACUUUGAUACCUCACCAGCUACAUGUUCCAAUGGAUCUUUUUUUGCUUCACAGUUUCUUAGGUUCCAUUUAAUUUGGUAUUUAUUUUGGUGUGAUAUAUUUCUCUUAGGGUGUGUCAAAUGGUAAAGCUGCAAGUAAACCAUCCAUUGAUAAUAAUAAAAAUGAGCUUUCUAACCCUAAACCCUCUAAUAUCUGAGUAUAUUGUUGAAUCUAUUGGGUGUUUUGUUGAGGUUACAACAAUGGAUUGAAACAUCUGAGCAUGUUGUUGAAUAUUUGGAGUGUUUUGAGACUGAUGGAGAGAGAAAAACAUAGGAAAAUAGUAUCUGAAUAGAGUUUUUUUCUUUCAAUUACUUAUAAGAUUUCUUCAUAUAAAGCCCUUUGUUUAAUAUCAGUUUCUAUUGAGCUCCCUUAGUUUUUGGUGGAUGUUGGUGUGUAAGUGUGUGUUCUUCCUGUUAUUCACACUAAACCCAUUUUUCUGGAAGGCCAUAACGGUAUAAAUUAGGUCAAAAUGCUUCUGUAGAGGACUUUUCUGUAUGUAUGGAAUUUUGAUCUUUGUGGAAAUAUGAAUGGUAUGUUAGAAAGUGAAUUCAUAUAGACUGCAUAGUUGGAAUUUUGAGUUCUUAGGUUUAUUUUUGUGCAAAGUCUUCUGUUAGAAGAUUCAUUAAAGAGCCAUUUCUUUCCUUUUUAAGUCUCUCUUCUAUCACUUGAAAGGCUAAAGUACUUGCAAGGGCAUGAAUUCUUGCAGGAAUUAUAGCUCAUGAGAGCAAUACUUUUUUUAUUUAUUUAUAUAAAUCUAUUUAAAGGAUGAGACAUAGAAGGAUCUUUGAAAAUUAUGGUUUGGAAUGGAUAUUUUGCAGACCAAAGUUUGAGAGGUCUGUCAUUGGGAAUGCAUAAUUGUAUCCAAAAGCUUCCCGUGAUGAACUUUAGGCCAAACUCAUAAAGAGAGAACAUUUAAAUUCGUAAAGAAGGGGUAGUGUUCAAGCUAUUUCCCAAGUUAUUAUUUCAAAUCUUUGCCCUUCCAAGUUUUAAAGGUUUAAAUUGUUUGUUAGGGUUUCUCAAUUUGGGUGUUUGAUUUACGAAUUUUAAUUCUUCUCUCUUUCUAAGUUUGAAAACUACCUUCAUUAUCUGGUUGGAGUGUUGAUGUAACCAGAACCAGAUUUUAAAUUCAGUUGGGAUUGUUGGGAGAUAAGAAUGGGAGAUUUUUUUUGGCUGGCUCUUUGUCAGUUGGGAUUUGUUUUUCUUUUCUUUUCUUAAUGCUUCAUAAUUCCUGUUUUGCUUUAGCAAAGUGUUCAGCUCGCAUGAAUUUGAUCUUUCGGUUAAUAGAGCAUAGAAAUUAGCUUACGGCACCAUAUGAAAAUGGGUUUAAUUUUCUUUAGGUUUACAGUGAAGAAGUCGAUCGUUUAAAAGGGUUUUUCUUCAAGAACAAACAUAUAGUGUAAUUUAAGAUAAACAAAAAGAAACUAAACUAUUUUUAUAUCACCAAAAAUUUCAGUGUCUCUGAUACCAAAUCAGACCAAAGUGAGUCAAAUUAAAGUUAGUAACCAACUGAACUUACUACAAGUGAAAUGUGUCUGAACAAUGAGUUGAGGCAAACAUCAGAGGAGCCACAAUAAGUUAUUAAUUGUUCUUCAAAACAAGAAAACAAACUAAAGAAAUUAAACACAUAAUUUCAAAAGUUCAGAGUGAAUUGUGUCCUGUCUGCUUUUUUUUUUUUUUUAUAAACUCCACAAUCAGUUUUGCCCUUGCAUGGCCCUCUGAAAUUUGGAACUGUUCAGUUAAACCCAUAUGUGCCAUAAGAAGCCAGACAUGGGUGAGUAGCUCUCCUCCUCGCCUGAGCUGCUGAGCCUGACCACUCCAUCGACAUUGAUUGGCGGCAUAAGGGAGCAUCUCCACCCACACAUGACUUACAAACUGCCACUUUCUCCCUCUAUUUGACUCCAGGGACUGCAAGGCUUUAGCAAGCCUGCAUGCAUCAAAUAGAACUGACUUGCUUCUAUCUCCUUUCACUUUAGAUGGAAGGAUGUCUGUGCACACAUCCAGUAGCUUUGUGCAUGCUUUCCUUUCACCCAAUUUCAUUAUUUUCUUUUCCUUGAAAAAUCCUUCAGCCUCAGCACAUGUGUCUCUAAACCUUAUCUGUCCAAUCCCAUUCAGUCGCAUGAAGGGGCACAUGACUAAUAGUUCGAUAACAGCUUACUGUUUUCACAAUUUUCACUAGGAACCGAGUUCGAGUUUCGAUUCACAUCAGAAUAAUAACAUAGAUCAGUUUGUGCAUUUGGUAUUUGUUUUUGUGUGAUAUUUUUCUGUUAGGGCGUGUCAAAUGGUAAAGCUGUUGAUUUGUUGGAAUUUAGGGUUUAUGAUUUGUUGAUUAAAUUUUGUGAUGGACCUCUUUUCCUCUUUCUGUUGGUGCAUUUGUCUUAAUUAAAUUUGUUUCUUUAAAAAAAAAAAUGGUGUGUUGAUUAAUUGAUAUGACAGUUUGGUUUGAUUAAUUCAUGUGUAUGACAGCAAAGGUUGGGAGCUGCUUUUGGAGCCUCAUUUAUUUGGCCUGCAAGCUUGAUUUACUUCUCCAGGUUUUCAUUCUCUUCCAUCUCCAUCUCCGAUUUUAAUCUACUGGUUUGGAAAAGCUCAUAUUCAAGUGAUUUUUAAACUCUAAAUCCCUAAUUGAUGAUAAUGCCUAAUAUUUUUAGUUAGUUGAAAUUUUUAUAAUGAGUUAUUAGAUGAAUAUUGAUGAUUUUCUUUGUGGAUAAUGAUUUAUUAGAUUGAAUGAAUAUUGAUGAUUUUGUGUGUGGAUAAUGAUUUGUUGGAUUAUAGAUGACUAUAUAUGAUUAUUUGAUUUGUUGGAAUUUAGGGUUUAUGAUUUGUUGAUUAAAUUUUGUGAUAGACUUUUUUUUAUAACUUAAUAAUCUAUUUAUCGAUGAUGUGUAAAUAACAUAGUAGCAUAUUUAAAUUUUUUAACAGGUGUUUUGAAUCAAGUGCUUCCUUCUAUUCUUCAAAAAGACAUAUAUUCUGGUAAACUUAAUUGAGUUUGAGCUUAUGGGGUUAAACUUUUUGCCAUAUUUUUAUUGCACUGUUUCUUUUCUUAUUCUUAUAUGCAGGGAUGAUUUGUUUCUUUUUUUCCUUCUUCUCAAUUUCAAACAGAUUUACAGUACUUUCUCUUGCUGAAAUUUUGUGAAAUAUAUGUAUAUAGGGGAGCUCAAAUUAAGAAAUAGUGGUUACGCAUUAUUCCUUUUUCAUAAAAUUCAAUUUUUCUUCAAUACAUCAAACUAUGAUUCUUUUACCUCUCUUCAACUUUUCCUUUAGAUAAACACAGAAUUUAAAAUAUGUUUACUUUGUGUUACAUCAAUUGGAAAGCCAUCUAGAACUUGCUCAUUAGUUCUCUUAAUUUCGUUACUUUGUGUUUCCUCGAUUGGAAAACCAUUUAUAACUUUCUUAUUAAAUUGUUAAAUUAUAUUAUUCAUGUUUAUACAUAAUUAGAUGUUUAUGAUUAUUGUCCUAACUCAAUUUUCCCCAUUCAUCAACACUAACACUUACUAUUUUCCCACUUUUUUAUAACAGGUCAAGAUCUCCAUCAAAGAGAAGAAAAGUCAUGAAGAAAUUGCAAAACAAAAACUGCCCAAUUAAACAGCAUGCUACUCAAAACUAUCUAAAUUUUGCUAUUUUGAUAACUGCUUCGCACUAUUAAUAUCUCAAUGUAUAUACAAACAUGCCUACUAUUUUAACAUAACAAGCAGCCUGUAAAAUAUGGUAUUACUUUCUUUUUUAGCAACUUAUACUUCCUUAGUUAAGCAUAAUGCUACAAAUUAAAUCUCAUUGUAUAUAAACAAUCUUAUUUUGUCUACGUAAUUUCAAAACCCGCAGCAUCGUGCGGGCUUUUUUUCUAGUGUAAACUAAAUAUCAAGAUAUUUCCUAAGAUGCACUUCUCUUAUGAACAAUCAGUUUCAUACCCCAAGAGCUGUUCUCCCACUUCUUCUUCACAUCGCAGCCUUCAUUGCAGCAAGCAAUUCCUUUUUCGUGGGGACCAUUUUUAUGUCAAUUUUGAUGUAAGAUACGGAAAGUCUCUCAAAAUUCAUUUGGCAUAGCAAGGUGCUUGGUGGAUGACUGCAUGUCUAUUUUGGCUCAAUUUGCUCGAGCCUUUAUUUUACAUGUUUUUGGGGAAGCAAAUACAGUAGCACAUCAUUUAGCACAUGACUUAUUGGUAACAAAUUUUAUUUUUGUCCACCCUAUGGUAGGGGUAUAUUACAUACUCUUAUAGAUAUAUUAUCAUUCUCUUGCCUAUUGCAUAGGUAUAUAUAUGUAUUUUUCAUAUUUUCGAUAACAUAUAAUAAUAUUUUAUGUACCAUUUUUUUAAUAGGUAGCAUACAAUUUUUAUUUGUCUAUUUUUGUAUCUAAAUUAUACGUGAUCUUCUUAUUUAUGUUCCUAACUUAUAAGUAAUCUUUUAAUUUAUGUUCCUGACUUAUACGUAACACGAUUUAUCACUAAGUUUUUUCCAUUGCUAAUAAUAACACUCUUUACCUUUAUGUUAGGUACAUAAUUUCAUGUCGCCUAAGUAAUUGGUAUAAUAUGUGGAUUUUCACUGUCAUGAAUUAAAUUAAAUUUUAUCCAUAUAUGAGGUAAAUAUUACCAAGGAAAGAAUUGAAAAUUUAAUUUAUGAAAUUCAAUUAUGAUAUUAAAUUUAGAUUUUCAAUGUGUUUUCUUUAUUUACCCUAAUGGGUAAAUUGACACAAGAAAAAGGUAAUAAAAGUCAAAGGACUUACAUCUAAAACCAAAAACGCGUGGACUAAAUUCAAUGACAGCUAAUCAUUUUGGAUCUAAGAACCCCUUAUAUUUUCCACUCAAAGGUUCUUAAAGGGAGCUUCAAGCAUUGAUCAACACUUCUACUCAACACCAUUUAAGAAAAAUAUGCUUGUAAGUGUCCAAAGUUGUUAUUGUCAUAAUUAUUGCUAGAGUGAUUGUCUUGCAUUUCCUAUUAGAGGCAUAGCCGUGCGGCUAUACUUUUUAAAUAUAUUUGAAUAUUUUAAAGGUAUAGCUGGUCGGCUAUACUCUUUCAUGUAUCCAGGGUUUAGCGCUCCUUUUCCAUGUAGACAAACAAAGAAUUGCAAAAUCAGAAACGUACGUAAAUUGGACGCCAUGGUAGCCACGGAUAGGGGACUCGAACUCGUCACUACGAACGUCUAGGGCACAGAGCAAGCCCGUGCCAGGUUUCGAUCAGUGUUCGAAAAAUCGGCCUAGGCACUAGCCGGGAGGACACCGACGCCAGGGAGUUAGGCGGCCUGGAAGGAUCUAGGUGGCACCUUGGCGGCCUGGAAGGAUCUAGGCGGCUCCUAGGCGGCCUGGAAGGAUCUAGGAGGCCUGGACUGAUCUAGGCUGCGCCUAGGCGGCCUGGGAGGAUCUAGGUGGCCUGGGCGGGUCGUGUCCAUAGUUAUAAUCAACUUAGGCAUGCAUAGUUUUCCAAAAAUUUACAAACAGCAAAACAGAGAAAAGACGCGAAUCAUGGAGUUACCAAUCCUUCGAUCUGAACAACUCUGAGGGAGGAAGCAACCUCUUCUGUCGCUGCCACCUGAAGAAAGGAUCUUGCCACCGCCGUACAAUCAACAAAACAAAACCAAAUUUUCACAAAGAAGAAAAACAAACGCAUUCAAAUUUACAGAUAGAGAAUUGUACGAACGGGUUGCCAUGUUGUAAUUUCACGGAGAGAGCAAAAGAAGAGAAGAGAGACAGAGCAAUAGUAUAAGAUGGGAAGCUUUGUCUCUCACGGGUGCGGAGGAACCUCUGUGUAUGGUGAAUGUGAAGAUGAUUGCUUAACCCUAGUUGUCGAAGGACUGGAAAAUUGGGCCUUGCUCACCCAUGCCUUUCUGCUUUAUUGAUUUCUUUCUAGUAUUAGAAGCCUAAUGUUACUGUCUAAUAAAGUCACUUAGAAAAUCCUUGCAUCUUCUGCUCUGCAACUACAUGCCUAUAAAAAAAUUUAUUUAUUUAAAUAUUUUGACUGUACAAGUGGAAUAGCACUGUAGGGGUGGACGCUACUUUAGACGGGCCAAUGAAAUCUUUCAACAGAUUCAAAGAAAAUUUUGGUUGAAAUUUUGUACACCUUAUUUUGGAGGCUUGUAGUGUAGAUAUGCAUAAUCCUUAUGGCUUUGGUGAUGUCAAAAAAAGCAUACAUAAUUGUUUAUUCCAAUUCUGGAAUGAAAUGGAAGACACCUUCAACUAGUUUUAGCCUUUUAAUUAAUUAGUUACUGGCAAAAGAGAGAUAAAACAAUAAUUCUGAGCUGGCAAAAACAGUACUUAAUUAGUUACUGGGCAAAAUCUUAUCUGUGUUUGAGUAGGUUUGCCUAAGUUCUUGUUUUUGUUUAUGAAUUUCAUAGCAAGUGUUACUGGUAUGGUGUUUGGUUGGUGGGAAAACCUAGCAAGUGUUAAUAUUUCUUUAUUUCUAAAAAAAUUACUAAUUCUUUACUUGCUUAGUUGCUUUGUUUUUAAAUUAGUUACACCUAGUAUGAUAAGAUAAUGCCUUCUUUUUGUUUUUUUACUGUAUAGACGUCUGCCAAGUGAGAUGGUUGGGCAUCUAAAUUCAUUUUGAGAUUUGGAUGAGUUGAGGGGAGAUCCAAUCCUCGUCACCAACUGCUUCGCCUGUUACGGGUGCCCUCUGGUUUUGAGGUUGGUGUCUAGGGCAGGCAGAAACAUAGAUUGUGUGAUGAUUGUCACCUGGAUAAUGGCUGUGGAUUAUUUUUCUAUAUUUAUAAAUGGCUUUUCAGUUGGGUUGUGUGGUCAGGGCACACUAGGAACUUAUUAUUCCCCCAGAACAUGAGCAGUUGGCUCAGCUUAACUUCCACUUUUUAACUUGAAAAGAAAAAUAAGGAAAAGAUUGAGAGAGAGAGAGAGAGAGAGAGUUUAACUUGAAAAGAAAAAUAAGGAAAAGAUUGAGAGAGGGAGAGAGAGAGAGAGAGAGAGAGAGAGAGAGAGAGAGAGAGAUUGUUUACAAAUUAUGUCCAUUCAUGACAUCUUAAGGCAAUAAAUAACCCAUUCGUCAUUCCAGAAGCCAGUCUAUGCAUCUACCAUGCCUAAAUGCAAGCCAGAGGGGUCAAAAGGAAAACGCUGCUUCCAUCAUUUUGGAAGUACAAUGGCCACUUCAGAAAUUGAGAAAUUAUUGGCUCGUUCUCCGACAGCUUCGUAAAAACUCAAAUCGGGUAAAGCAAAACGAAGAGGCUCCUAACCUCAUCUAAAAAGUGUAUCCUAAACAAUAUAAUGGCAUAAGAGAGCAUUUUUUAUUUCCAAAUACACAAGAUUCAGCUCCAGUUGAGUAAAAUAUGAUAGCGGCCUCAUGCAAAAUUAGAGAAUCUUGGUCACAAAGGAACUAUAUAUUAAUAAUAUACAAAUUAGUACAGCCAUGGAAGAACAUAUUUGCUCAUGGUAGCAAGAUAUUUACAAAUCUUGAGAAAAUGGCUUGGACCCCAGUGAAACUGUAGGAUGUCUACAAAGUAGUAUCUAUAUUUACUCAUUACACUUGAUGUUUAACCAGAAAGGAUGCAGAUCUUCCUCCUGAAAAUGCUUGAAGGCCAAAAGAAUUUUUAAACUUAAUGGAAGAAAUAAUCUUUCAUCUAUCCAAAUGGGUUUCCUCUCUUUGAAGAAAAAGUUUCUGAGUUGCUGGGUGCUGGGUAUCUGAUACUUGGUUGCUGAAAUGGUUGCUGAGUUGUGCUUAAGGCGCCAAACACAGCUUCGCCCCUGCCAAAGCCACCGACUCCUUGUGGUCUGCAAUGAGGAUAGUGGCCGAAAAAUUAAGAAAUUAUAUUCAUUGUCAGCUGAAAUGGCUCGUAGCAUGCAAUGCGAUACAAAAAACGAUAACCAAGAACAAAUCAUUUACCUCACGUAAUUAUUUUGCAAUUGCUGCCCCAUGUAGGCACCUGAGAUGAUUAUAUUAUUAGACAUAAACAAAACAAGAAGCCAAGACAAGUUGACAAGAAACAGAAGAUAACGAAAUGAAUUUACUAGGAGAGAAUGCAGUUGCAAAGGAAGGCGAAUGUGAUGGCAUCAUGGAUUCAUUAGUUGGAGAUUGAGGUGUCUUCAACUGCGAAAAAUGAGUAGGAAGGCUGGAAGCAUGCAUCAAGCCUGGAGGUGCUGACACAUGAUGCAGAGCUCCUUGCAAUGGUGCCAUGGAAGGAAACUACAACAAAAAUAAUACUUGGAAGGUUCAAAAUAACUAUGAUUUGAACUUUUAUUUAUUGAGAAGAAAAAGAAUGCUCUUAAACAUAAAAAUAAAAAUAAAAAAAGUCAACUAAGAGUACGAAUUUUAAAAACUUCACAAAAUUGAGAAAGAAUAAGAUGUCAGUUUGAAUGUUGUGCAUACAUGUGUGGAAUGUACUACACUUUUUUCUUCAUUAAGAUCAAACGGGUUUGUUGGUUUUGCUGGAGCAGGAAAUGCAGGAGCAGGCUGUAAAUGAAAAUAACAUAUCAAUAAUCUGCGUACAGUAAGAAAUCUUAACACAGAACAUAUUCAGCUUGAUUCAUUUUUAUACAUUAUAUACCGUUGUGUUAGGGUAAUACUGCAUGCUGUACCCCAUUCCAGGAGCUGGAGCAGUAUGCCAACCUGAAGCUUGUGCAGGGACUGAUGAAUACCUUGCAGAGAAAAGGUCCUGUAGAGAAUUCAAUAUAAGAUAAUGACUAAGAAAUUUUUUACAGAAAAAAGAAAUAUGAAACAACAUAAGACAAUUUGAUACCACUGGAAGUUCCUUUCUCAUACUAGCUCUUGUUUCCGCUGGAAAAUAUUCGGAUCCAGCUCUACUGCCGGUAUCUUCAGCUGGCUUUAAAGAAGAUUGAGUUGAUUUUUCAACAGGAAUACUGAGAGAUCUUUGUAUGUUUGGUGCCAGUGCUAAAGUCCUUGACUGCAAAUGUGUAUAUUAAGCAACAAAGUAAGAAAAAACCAUAAACUACAUAAGACAUAAGAGAAAGCAGUAUAUUUACAUUGAAGAAUUUUCAGAAUAAUUCAUAAUCAGUGAUUGCUAAACUGAAUUUUCAAUAUUUAAUAAGGAGGAAACGAUAUUUAUCUUACCUCACCAUUUGAAGCUCGAACCGGAGUAUUUAUAUGUUGUGAACCGCUAUCUGCAGUGAAGGAUAGCUGCAUACUUGGUGGCUGUUGCCCAUUAUUAACUUUUAGAGUGGUAUCACCCCCACUAGGAGGAGGUAGAGCUAGCAAAGUACCUACAUUAGCAGGUUGUUCUGGUACAGCGGUACUAGUUGAUGUAGAUGUAGAAGCAGUUAGAGCAUCAAGUAAUGUUGGCAUCUGCUCUACAGGUGCAGCUGGGGCAGCACCACCUGCAGGCAUGUUGCUUAUACACAAAGUUGAGGGUGCAACGUCAUUGCGUGGUGUCUCAGAUGCAUUAGUCGCAGGUACAGAUGAGGGAGCUGACAAUUCAAGUAGCAAAGACUCCAAAGGGUCUGGGUUUGGAACCUGAGAUGCCUUCUCCUUUGAAGAUGAAUCAAAUGAGGCCCAGUUGUUAUCAUUAUUAGGUGGAGGUGUUUGCUGUGAUUGUGAAUUUGCUGCGGCAUGUGGGGGGUCGGAAUCAGUAUUGAAAUCAAUCAAGCUUACUAUUUUGUUUUCCGUCUCAUUCCCAUCCUGGCCAUUGGCAGAUUUGAUUUUCUACAGAGGAAACCACAAACUAUAAGUGCAUAUCUUUCUUGAAAACUGUCUACAGAGCCUAUGAACCUACAUAAAGAAAAACACCUAUGCUCCAAUCAAAUAUCCAUCAUAAUGUAGCAGCAACUGACCUGAUUAGGAGCAGAACCAUCAGCAUUCUUCUGAUUUUCUGUAGAAAUUUCACCAAUCUGUAGAGGAGGCACAUUCUGCGCUAGUUUCUCUUCAGUGGUGCGUGCAACAAGGGAACGAGACCUCUCCAUGUUCUUCUUAUUUUCAGUUGCCCUGCUUUGGACCUUGAAUUCUCCACUUGAGGAUCCAUUGCGUCUGGUUUUUUCCUCCCGAAUCCUGUUAUCAACAAUCUCAAAACGCAGAGGAUUUCUCUUGACACCACCACUCCUUACAUUUUCUUGAGAAUAUCGAGGACUUCUUCUUUCAUCAUAGUAAUAUCUUAAACUUCUGUCGGUACCUCUUUCACCUGGACUCAUUCCUUGACUAUAACUCCGUUCAUGCAUGUCGUCAUCAUGGAAGCUCCUAGAUCCACCAUGAUAUGAACCUACCUUCCUGCCUUCAUCAGACUCCUCAUUACUCUGUAUAAAAUGAACAAGAAUCUUUAACUGGGGGCAAUCAACAGAACUUACAAACAAUCCAUCAUCACAAAACCAAAAUGAGGUCUAUGUUUGUAGUGCUUGCUGCUGCUGAUAUAGCGUGCAGAUCAGGAAUGGCCAAGCUCUCCGCAGACGAAAGUAGUAAAAUAUGAAAUAAAAUAUUGUAUGUGCAACCAUUAAUAAAUGUGUAGCUCACCAAUCGCAGCCUUGAGAGCUUGUUCAUACUUCUCUCACCAGUGUAAACACUCCUCUCACCAGUGUAUUUUCUAUUCACGUAGACAUGCUUGAUAAAAUCCCUGAGUCUAUGAAGAUUACUGGAGGAAAGUAUGUGAAUUAGAAAACAUCUGGUAUGAAUUCAUUAACCCAUUAAUAGAAGAUAAAUACGCUUAAUCACCUGCCAUCAGGGUAAGCAUGGUACUGAGGAUCCCAUUCUUUAAAAUAAAUUUGUCUUGCUCGCUGUAAAUGAAAAUUUUAGUAAGAACCUGAACAGAACAUAUACAUACAGAAAGACCAAUGAGUAUGCACGCUCACCUCAUUCCCCCCUGCCUGCAGAGCACUAACUUCUUCUGCAUUAAAUUUAGCCAUCGACACUGAUUUCACUCGGUGAGUGAACUCCCGACUGAAGAAUACGAAAAAUCUUAAUAGGUCAGCACUUGUAAAACACAAAAUCAAAAUGAUGCCAUGCAGAAUUUAUGCACAUCACAACAAGAAUAAAGAAAACUAUAGAAAAGAAGGGUAUCACGGAGAGGUAGUGAGUGUAAACCAGAUAAGAAUACUUACUGUACUCCACUACAAUUUGUACACACAAAAGUCAAGAAGGUUGUACAAACAUAUUGUGGUCCCUGCACAAAGAAUACAUGUUAAGAAUAAUGUUGAACAUUUGCUUGUAAGAGAAAACGUAUGAAACCGCGCUUUCCACCAAAAUAUAAUUAAAUUUUUCACAAAAACAUAUAUAUUUCUCAAGUAUCUUCUCAUAUAUCUUUCGAAGCACAGUGCGUCUUGAAUGCAAUAAGAAAUCUAACACAUAAUUAAUCAUGCAUUUACAGAGUUCAAAUGUUAAUUUGCAGAAAAUAACAAAUUGAGGGUUUCGCUGCUUUCCCUGAUAUGCUGCAGAUGAAGAACCGUUGUUGAUGUUUUUAAUUUCACUUGUAUAAGGACCAUAUAACAAUGAAGGACACACACCAAAGAGAUAAGAAAAUAUGUAAAGAAGAUGUCAUACCAGACAAUUGCAAUUGAUGCAUCUUUUAUUCUGAGGAUGUUUCAAAAGAGUGCGAAUUGUUCUUUCGAUUUUCUCAUCUUCCUUCAAUCGAUUACCCAUUUCUCAGGAAAUUAUGUAACCUGAACAAAAAAGAAUGGAUAAAUAAUUAUUCCCACACAAAAAAAGGUCAUCUUUACUUUCUUCUCCAAAAUUUCUCACCAUCCAAAGGGAAAAUUACAGGAGGAAACCAACCUGAUUAUAUAACCAGUGCAGAUUAUAUCGAUUUCAGCAUGCAGAAAAAUUUGGCACCUCCUUCCAUCCAAAAAAUAGAAAUGUCAUCUUUCAUAAAUAAUUCAAACAUCAUCUAUAAAAUGAUUAGAAAUGCAUAUUUUCUCUUUUUUCUUCAGAAAAAGAAAAUUGAGAAUAAUCCUUCAACUAUAUGAAUGCAAUGUUUUACAUGAAUAUGAAUGUUCCCUGUCCUCUACUUUUCCCACAUUUUCUCAGUAACCAAACAGACGGAAAUGAAAUAAAACCACUUGUUAUCCAUAUCCGAUCAAAAUGAAGGAAAAGAGGACGACAUUUACUCUACUUAGCUCAAUUUUCUGAGCAAGCAAACAGAAAAUUGCAUGGGGAAACCAACCUGAUUAUAUAACCAGUGUAACUUUUGUAUGAUCUAUGCCUGCAUCCACCGGCGUGCAGAAGAAACCCCAGAAAUUGGCAACCGAGGGAGGAAGUGAAGAUAAUAAGCGUCGCAGAGAACCGACGGCUUAGAGUCGGACAUUUGUGCAACGAAGUCGGUUAGAGAGAAAAAGAGAGAGAGGAGAUAAAGAGGUCAAAGGGAGGGAGUGAAAGUUGCCGAUUCGAACGGUUAAAUUUACCGCUAAAUAAUAGUAGCCGUUGAAUCUACGCUGAUUCUUUUUUUUAGUAACAAAAACAACCGCCACUUCCUAAUUAAACCAUUCGUCGCUCGCUAAUUAUCAAUUUCGAAUAAAUAAAUAGCAGAUGUGAGUUAGACCGCCCACCCCAUUUCAUGACAGGAUGCCAGUGGGCCAAAUGAAUCUUUCAAGCUAGCCUCGACGGUAUUAUUUUUAGAUGUGAUGAUGCAUCAAAGAAUGAUGUCAUACCAGUUUAGCAGUAAAUUGAAUAACAGACUUAUUUUAGGUAUUGUUCUUUCGAGAGUAUAUUAUUUCCCUAUAUUAUUAUUAUUGAUGAUAUUAGUGAUGGCGGUAGGAGUGAAUAAGUUGUAUAGUUUUCUUCGGUUUCCUUUCCGUUUCUAUUUUUCUUCUAGGGAUUGUGGGCGCUAGGCGCUAUGCUGGUCUUUUUAUUUAUUUAUUUAUUAAAAGUAUAGCCGCAAUAUUGUAUACUGGCAGAACUUUUAAGUUAUAAUUUGUCAAAAUUUAAAGAAUAAAACAACUACAUAUUCUAUUCGUAUAGCUGCACGGCUAUACAAAAUCAAUAUUUAUAAAAUAUAAACUAAUGCAACUAGGACGAUCCUUUUUUUUUAUAUAUAAAUUAAAUAGUCUAGCCAUUCAGCUGUACUACGAUUUUACGCAAAAGGAAAUAGUAUAGCCGGGCGGCUAUACUAUCAUUUUGCAAUAUAGCCGCACGGCUAUACGCUGUUUUUUAAUUUUUAAAAGAAAUAGUAUGGCCGUCCGGCUAUACUCGAUUUUUCCUAAUUUUCUAAUAAGCAAACGUUCAAUACUCGUCUUGAACUGGUAUGUACGUAUUUUUCAUAUAUAAUACACGUAUUUUUUUAACUGUUUUAAUAAUACGCACAAAAUUCACGUCGUAUACAUAUAAUUCUCAUAUAUUAUUGAAUACAGAUAAUAUAUAUUAAAUUAUUUUAUAGUAGCUGAACUUUUAACUUGUAAUUUGCCAAAAUUUUGGCGAAUAAAAUAAUUACGUAUUUUAUUCUUAUAGCCGUGUCUAUGUGGCUAUACGAAAUCAAUAUCUAUUAAGUAUAAACUAAUGCUACUAAGUGCCCGUUUAGCAUUGCUUAUUUGGGGUGAUAAGUUAUUUUAAAAAAAAAAAUUGGGAAGCCCAGCCUAUGUGAUAAACUAUGAGAAAAUCACUUAUUGUUAAAAAUUGCUAUGAGAGAGAGCUAUAAGGAAAAGCAGCUAAGAGGCUCCGUCUUUCUUAAUAUAUAUAUUUUUUAAUUAAAUAGUCUACCUUUGCGGCUAUACAAGGCCUUUCAAUUUUUUUUUAAGAUAUAGUCUAGCCGUACGGCUACACUUUGUUUUUUCUAAUUUUUAAAAACCAAUAGUAUAGCCGCACGGCUAUACUGGAUUUCUUCCUAAUUUUUUAAUAAGCAAACGUACAAAACUUGUCUUGAACAUGUACGUAUGUAAUUUUCAUAUAUAUAUAUACACGUAUUUUUUUAUAAAAUUUUCAAUGAUACACACAAAAUUAACAUAUUAUACACAUAAUUCUCACAUAUUAUUGAAUACAAAUAAUAUAUAUUAAAAUAUUGUAUAGUGGCUGGACUAUUAAGUUGUAAUUUGCCAAAAUUUUGGCGAAUAAAACAUGUAUUUUAUUCGCGCGGCUAUAUGAAAUCAAUAUCUAUAAAGUAUAAACUAAUGCAACUUAGAGGUCCUUUUUUCUUACUAUUUUUUUAAUUAAAUAGAAUAGCCGUGCGGCUAUACUGUGCGCUUUAUUUUUUUAUUUUUUUUAUAAAGAAAUAGCAUAGCCGGCCGGCUCUAUGCUGAUUUUUUUAAUUUUUUUUAAAGAAAUAGUAUAGCCGUGCGGCUAUACUCUGUUUUUCAUUAAGAGAAAUAGUACAGCCGUUUGGCUAUACGCUUCUUUUAAAUUUUAAAAGAAACAGUAUAGCCGCACGGCAUACCCUGUUUUUUAAAAAAUUUGAUUGUGCUUCAUGGCGAAUUUUUUUUAACAGAAACAUCGGAAAUUAAAUUCAAUGAUGAAUGAAAAUAUACCCCUACAAAUCAUAUUCGUUAAGAAUCACACCUCUCAUAUGCGAAAGUCCCUGUCGCUACCGUCCAAAUCAAGUGUAUCACCAUUUUUGUUUUUGUUCAGAAAGAGCUAGAGAGAAGGGGAUGAGGCGAAGAAGAUGGAUUGGGAGGAAGGAAGAAGAAGAUGGAUGGGCGGAGGGUUUGCCAUGACAACUUUACGUCAAGAAGAUGGAUGGGCGGACCCUUUACAUGAGAGAGAUCAGAAAUGCCAAUACUUGUAAUUUAUUCGUGAUACGUAUGUGGAAAUGUAUGCAUCCGCUUAUGCACUGUAAUUAUGAAAAAGCCUCGAGACAAUGAUUGAAGAGAAUGCUUCUGUUGCCAGCCAAAUUUAUACCAGCACAAUUGCCAAAAGAUAGCUUUCUUUGUUUCGAUAAAUCCAUUUUGGCUGUGAUAAACUUUUUUUUUUAAAAAAAAAUUAAAUUUAUUUUAGAAUUAAAAAAGAUAAUGGGUAAUUGUGUUCCAUAAAAAUAGGAUUCAUUAUCUGAUUUUUUUAAAUAUUUUUUUAAUAUGAAAAAGUGUGAAUUUAUCAUAUUAUCUUCAUUUAAUUAAUAAUUUUAAUUCUUAAUGUUUGGAUUAAUCAAGAGCAUUUUCUGGUAUUUUGAAUGUUUCACCAUUCUCUGCCUUUUGCUUUAUAUAUCUAGAUACAUAAUUGGCCCUUUAUUCGGCUAUUUGUAUAUAAAUAUAUAGGGUUAAUUUUUUUUUAGUCCUUAAAUUUAGACCCGAUUUAUAUUUGAGUACCUCAAUUUCCAAAAUGGUUCCCAUGGGCCUUUUUUUUUUUUUUUUUUUAGAAUGAGAAUUCAUUCAUAAAACCACAUACGUACAAAGAGUGACAUGAUACAGUGGCCUCGUUAAAACCUUUCAAGGACAACCUCAUGGGACAAAUCCCAGGAGAGGAAAGAGUACCACACACGUCAUGUGCUAACAUGAGAGUCCAAUUCAUGUCACUUUGGACCAUUACAAUAAAAGAACAAGUCAAAAACAAAACCUAACACAAAGACCUCUGACGAGAACCGCAACUAGAGACCAACACAGUAAACCCACAUGAGAGAACCGCAGAAACCACAACUAGUAAACCCACAAGAGAGGACCGCAGAACAUCCCAAUUGUCAAAAAGAAGCCUUCUAUGAGUAAAAUCAUAGUCAUUUGACACCUAUAUAAACUGUAAGUCAUACUAUAGUAGAAACCAGGAGAGAACACGAAGGACGAACACAGAAACAACAAUAAAAUGACCCAUGAGAACCACUCCAUUUCAACUCAAAAUCUGAUAAAGAAAACCUCAUAUGACCAAGCAUAGUUCUUCGGUCGGCACAGAGUAAAGAAGAGCACCACAUCCCAACAACUACCACCAGCGUCGCUGCUGCCGCCACCGUUAAAACAGAGACAAAACAUUAGCCACCAGGUAUUAUAACUCUCCUAAAGAGAGACACAAUCCAGCGUCACUACUGUCGCCGCCGCCGAGACAAAGACAACACCAGCCACCUAAAACACUGCAAAAACAACCAAACAAAACAAACAGACAAACAGACUUAGAUCCAAACAGAUCUAGACUAUCUGGGGAGAGGAAGAGGAGGAGAAGAGGGGAUAAGAGGAAAGGAAAAAUAUGGAAGAAAAAGAUGGGGAGAUGAGGAGAGGAAGGGGAAGAUGGGCGGAGAGGAGGAGGGGCAGUGGCCACCUCCCCUGCUAGCUUCCUCGCAGUUGGUUGUCAGCAAGGAGAAAGGGGAUCAGAGUGCGGCUAGGGUUUCAAUCCAGUUCCCGUGGUCCUUUAACUUUAGUUUCGUUAUGACAAAUGGUUAUGCCGUCAAUUUUGUUAACUUUUUUGUUAAAUGCAUGGGCAAAAUAGUAUUUUUGUAUCAAAAUUGAUUAAAAUAUAAAUUAAAAAUUAAAAAAUUAAAAAUAAACUCUCUCUCUCCUCCUCUAUCCUGAUUUCUAACCCACCCAAACUUUAUUAUUAUUUUUUGUUGUUUUUUUAUUUGAUUUUCUUUUAUUGUUAUUUUAAAGAUAUAAUUUUUAUUCAUUUUUUUUGUUUUAAUAUAAAAAUAUCAUUUUGUCCCUGUAUUUAACAAAAAAAAAGUUAACAAAAUUAUCAACAGGACCAUUUGUCCAAACGAAAUUAAAGUUAAAGGACCACAGGAACCAUUUUGAAAAUUGAGGUACUCUAAUCCAAAUCGGGUCAAAAUCCAAGGACUAAUAAAACGAUUAACCCUAAAAAUAUAUGUUCAAUUCUUUGUUCGAGCGAUGAUGCCCAAGUCUUUUCACAUGCAAGAAGAGUAAGAUUGUAGAGUUUUACAAACUAGUGUAAAAAAAAAGUUCAUGACUAUUUCAGACAUUUCCCCAAUAAUCUUAAUGAAAAAAGUGUUUACGUUUGGUUUCCAAACGGUGUAAUUCAUGAGUCUGUUGAAUCAGGUUGUCGCGUAUUAUGUAAAGCAAGCUGAGUGUUCCACAGCAAAAGGCAAUCAUUCCUUUUUCUUUUUCUUUCUUUUUUUUCCCAAGUGGAGUGUUAUUUGGACAAACUGCUCCGUUUAAUACCGAACACUUAAAACACUGAGAGGGGGGUUAAGGGGGACAAAGAACAAAGGACAAGGAAAAAGAUCUGUACAAUGAGAUUGGCAGCCAAAAAUUUCAUAUACCCCUCCCCCUCUCCCUCCCUAACCUGCAGGAUCAGUACAAAGAUUGCACUGAUUUGAACCGAGUAGACAGACCUCGAGCUGGUAAAAAAAAAUCUCGCUAGUAGAAGAAUCAGGGGCGUUGCUGGUGUCGUUGGAGCAAUGAUUUUCUUCCCCACUUAUACUGCUCAUGGCUCUCAUGUUAGAAUUUCUCUAUCGUAUCUGCGUAAAAAAAACGGAAAAAAAGCCACCACUAUCGACAAAGUAGAACCGGACUGACUGAUUCCACCAAAAACAUUGUCGAGUCUAAGAGUAGUUCUCUUUAGGCUGCCUGCACAACAGCAAGCUGAGGGAUUUGGCAUUUCAAUUCUGUCAUCUCAUGUUUAAUUUUGAUGUUCUACCCUUCGCUAUCAGAGUCCUCGGAAGAACCUUUGAUUGCUUCUGCAGUCAUGAGAGAAACCACGGCCUUGUGAAUUGCUAGAUCUGCUCUGUAAAACAAUUUCUGAGCUUUCUCUCUCUUGAGCCUAGCAACGUUAUGUGCAUGCUGAGCGGCACCAGAUGCAUCACGCAGUCUGAACUCAUCGAGAUCAGGACCAUCCAACAAUCCCAUGUCAUGCCUCUGAGGCCCAUCUGUUUGAUAAUAACGCUGGCUUGACCAAUCAGGGAAGCCCGUAUUCCAUCGCUGAACUCCAUUUCUGUUUCCUACCACUCUGUGACUGUAAGGAGACACCAUCUGGGGUUCAACAGGUGAUACCGUCCUUCCAAAUUUCUUUGACUUGCUUCUGUGAAUUCUAUGUAGAUGAUUCCUCUCAAACCCAUCAUUGCUAAUCAAGAUGUUAGUUGCAUCCCUUGGUGAAAAUACCCUAGGUGAUGUCUGAGACAAUGGGGAAUCGUCUAAAGAGUCAUAGUUGUGGCCUGGAUAUACAACUUUUUCGUCACCAAAAGCAAACCCAUUUGAUCUUCUUCCUGAGGGAAUAAACAAAACCCAAUAAAAAAGAUGCUUGCAAAAGAAAUUAGUCAAAAUUUGUAUUUAGGGAAAAGAUUUUGAUUGAAAUACCAGGGGUAAAGAAAAUUACCAAUAGCAUGGAAACCAUCCUGAUCUCCUAACAUGCCACUGCUAUGUCCAGAAACUGAAAAUCUCUUCUGUGACCGUUGUUUUGAUCCCUUGUUGGGAACUUCCAGGCCCCGUGGUUUCAGACAAAAAGCAAACAUUGGUGGCUUCUCAACUGAUGCAGCUUUCUCGUGGCAUCCAUUGGGGAGGAUGGUAUUGGUUUUGAUCAUAGCUUGCUCCCAUUCUCUCACUUGUUGUUGAUACCUUUCCCAUGCAGAUGGCUGUAAAUAAAAAAUAAAAAAAUUUGUAAAGCAUUCAAAUGAACAAACAAAAGGCAGAUGGCUUUUCCACAAUGAAAAUAAAAAUUCAAGGGUGACCAGGAAUUAAUAGAUAUAACUAUAAGCAUCCCACCCCAUGAAUUACAGGCUACAUAAUAAAAUCACCCUGUCAAGAUCCUAAAUGUGGGUUCAAAAAUUACAUGGUUACUACCACAGGGAAAACUGAGUAUUCUCAAUAAAGAAAAUUACUAAAAGCUUUUAAGCAAGAAUAUGAUCUGAUGAAUGUCAACUUCUCCCUAAACAGGUUCAUCUUAUUAUAAUAAUGGUGGAUACUGUUUACAGAGUUUGGCACAGGAACCAAGCAGGAGUUAAAUUGGCUGUGAGAAGUACAUUCCCAACCAUAGAAGAAAACUUGUAACUAAUGCAGAGAUGAAAUGUAGAUGAGUGUCCCAUUAUUCUAAACUACCUAAAAGGUAUAGCUAUCACAUAAAAUAAAUAACAUUCAGAAAGUACCUGGAGAUGUCGGAUUAAAGGCAUUCCCUUCCUUAGCCUUUUCCCUCGCCAAUGUUCGUAAAUGGUUUUAAUCACAUCCAUGGGACCAACUACAGCCACGAACUCUUCUAUUUCUUCAUAUGUGAACUGAUCACACUGUUGAGCAUACGCAGCCUUCUCAAACAUGUCCAUUGUCUUUUCAAACAUCUCCUCGUCGAUCUCUAUAGAACUACUGUUGUCAACUUCUGAAGAAUUUUGAAACUUCAUGAUCCACUGCUCAUCAUCACUAUCCAUGUCAUACAAGACCCGAGAUGGAUCCAAAGCCAUCUCAACAUCUGUUUCUGUCUGCCGGAAAUACUUCGUAGAACUGCGAAGAAACGAUAUUUCUGCUCCAUUAUCAUCACUUUCUUCAAUUAAGCGGACACCAGGAAUAGGAAUGUUUUUUACCAAAGCAGAACGAAUAUUCCGAUUGUAACACUCUUCAUGCAUCUCCCUGAAAAGUGCCCACUGGCUCCUAUCUGGAAACUCCAAGAUCCAAUCCUUUCCUCCCUUCCACAUCAUAGCAUGAGUAUAGCGGUUUGUCGACCCAGGCUGCAAAAAUUGAUGUGCCUUGUAUGAAUACUUUGUAGUCCCUGAUAUUUUCACAGCAAGCUUCCACUCAUUAUGAUCAAAAAGCUCUAAUACUAUAUGUGCCCCACAUUCCCUCCACCCUCUGUCACUGCCAUUGAUUAACACAUUUGCUUCGCAGGAUAACUGCUCCAAGUUUCUUUGGGAACCUCUAGAAACGUCUGAUAACCUCUUCUCAUUAGCCCUCCUAAUUCGUUUAGGAGGAAUCCCUUUCUGAAGGUUUCUUUGCUUCGAGCUAAAAUCAAAACCUCCAUAAGGCAAUGUGUAUGAGACCUGAGUUCGGGGCUUCUUUGGUCCAUUGCCAAAACCAUUAUGGAAAAGGUCAGCCUUUCCAUCAGACCAACCGUGUGAGAGGGAUCCAAAUGAUGAUGAACUAUUUCUACUUCGGUGCCAUGUACUUCUAGGAGCCGUGGGGUUAGGGCUAGGGAUAAUGCUACCACUCAUAUUCCAAGAACAAUCUGUAGGCUGUUGAGCACUUUGCACCUCCCCAUCCACAGGCUUCUCAAAUCGGUCAAAUGAUGGGAUCUCGACAGUGAGACCAUUCAAAAAAGACUGGGAAUCAGUGUCAGACUUCUCUUUGCCAACCAAAUGCUUUGGUGAUAAAGAACAUUGAUCUGACUCUGGAUGGUGGACAACUGCAUCAGUUCCUGUCUUUUCAGGGACCUCAGUACCAGUGGAGGAUCCAGCAACACUAAGAACGCCAUUUUGGUAAUGCUGAGAUGACUUUGUCCAACCUCCAUUGCAUAGAGCAAGAGCAGUUUCUGUUUCUGGUUUGGAAAAGGAGUGAUCAGAAGUAGCAUUACCUGGUGAUGCCUUUAAAUUGUUCUCAUGAGUAAUUUUUGAACCUCUGUUAAAAAAGUCCUCCACACUAGAACAGUCAACUGCCAACAUACUGCCAGAGUUUCCUAAAAGCUCCACUGAAUCAGGGUCCCGAAAGCAUAUAUUAGCAACACAAUGCUCCAUAAGCAGCUUAAGAUGCAAACUAAGGAAGAAAGUAGGUGCAGCAGUAAAAGAUAGGGCGAGUGGAGGAAGUUUUCUGGGAAGCUCAUCAGAAUGAGAAGUAGAAUGACUGAUAUUUACAAAAGUAGAUUCCCUGGAACCACCCAUGAAGUUAAUGCCCUGCCUGGACCUCCUCCGUGUACCCUGGUUGGUGGAAAAACUAUAUAAGUAAAUGCCUUCAUAAUACAAAUACAUUGAUGAACAAUAUAAUUAUCUACACAGGGUGGAAGACUAGGAAAAAAAAUUCAGUUAAAACCAAAAAUUGUUUUCGGAAUAUGUAGAGAACAUAAGACAAAUACCUUGACAGAGGAGGGACGCCCACAAAGAGACAUAAAAGGUGACUGAUUUGUUCCAUUUUGAAGUGCUUGAAUACUAUCGUAGGUGCAUUCAGACAGAGGCAGUUUCUUGGUGAGCAAACAAUGGCUCCUAACUUUUGAGUCUAGGUACUUCCACUUUGACUUUUUCACUUGAGAGAAGUUGUAGACUGCAAACACAAGUUGCUUCCGAAGAAGCUGAACACAAGAGAACUUGAACCUGAUUGAAGUUACUGGUAACUGGAAAUCCAGAAACUUCCCCUGUUCAAUAGGGUGAUGAAAUAAUGCCAGGACAAGAAAAACAAAGGCCACAGCCUGCUCCAAGCAACCUUCAAACAAGAGAAACCUCAGCCCAACUACAUUAUCAACAAAAAGCAUCUCCAAAUAAACCUUUGGCCAUGUGAUCACCACUGUACCAUACCGAUGCAGCAUUGCAGCAUGAAACAACGAAAAUUCUACUCCAAAAGAAUCAUUAAUAGUUGAAUGCAUCGGAACGCCUAACUCAAAAGUAACUUUCCCUGCUUCUGUCCGAGGAAGAGUCAACUUUAGCAACCCUGCAUCAUCAAUAUACCACAAUGGCCCAUUGGCAUCCAACCUUCUCACAAAAUCAUAUGGCUCUUCCAAAUCCCCAAUCUCCUUAACAGGAACAAAAGAAGUAAUGGAACCAAGUUCACUCACGUAGGCAUGAUUGCCCUUGGAUGUGUGAGACAAUACAGACCCAGUUUUGCGCCGCCUCCGAAAAUAAACAAUAGGCAUUUUGCUAUCUCUGGGGCAAGUGCUGCCUUGUGAGGUAGGCUUUUCUUGCCUCAAAACAUCAGAUGAUCUGCCAGAAUUAUGAGAAGUUCUAAUUUUAUCCCUUCUAAAUGAACCAUCACCCAGAGAUCCAUGUAACAUGACAUCUUCAUCAGACAACGGUGGCUUUAAAGAUAGACCUGAUGUUUUUUGCUUCUUUACAGCACAGGAAGGAGACUUGACCCUACGGUUAGAUCGCGCCAACCAUGAAAUAAUGGGUUCAGUGUCCAUAUAGCUGCCCAUGCAGCUAUCAUCCUCCGAAGUCAACUCUCUCUUUUUCUUUUCUUUUCUGGGUUUCAAGUUUCCUUUUCUCUCAACAGAACUUCUAUUCCGCUGUGUUGAUUUUUUCCGUUCUAUCUUACCAGGAACUUCACUAGGAAGUAGCAAGAGCUUGAACCUCUCAUUUUGAAGGUCAAUCCAUUCUUCAUCACGGUCAUCGUAUUUAACAUGAUGAAGUUUUUUUUCCUUGUCAUAGUCAUUCACAAGGCCGUAGUACCAAGUUUGGUCCAAGGGCCAGAAGACUUUGAUUCUCCGGUUCGUUACCCAGUAAGCAUCCAAGUUCCCCAAAAAAACUUCAUAGAAAUGGCGCCUUUUCCGCGAAUGUCCCUUUUCUUUGUGCUGUUUCCUCGGCCUCAACACUCUACCAGAAUUAUCAACCGAAGGAGAUUCUGACCCAGAAAUAGACUUUGACCUACGACUAUCAAAAUCCUGACCAGAAGAUAGCAGAAAAGACAAUCCAUUCGCAGAUUCCAAUGCAGAAGCCUUGUUGUUUGAAGAAAACCCAGUACAGCUUGGAUCAAACCUCGAUGAAAGCAUCCUUGCUGCAUUCUCUUCAAGAUUCUCCUCAUCGUCCUCUUGUAAAUCAUGGCAACUUUUUGUAGAACUAUCAACCAAUGGAUCAGCUUCCUUUGCAGCACUUUUACUACCACAUGCUAAAUCCUUCCUCUUCCUGCGACUCCUCCGAUUCUCCUCAUUGUCUUCUUGUGAAUCAUGGCAUGUUUUUGUAGAACUAUCGACCAAAGGCUCAGCUUCCUUUGCAGCAAUUUUACUAUCACGUGCCAAAUCCUUCCUUUUCCUCCGAUUCCUCCGAUUCCUCCGAUUCUCCUCAUUGUCUUCUUGUGAAUCAUGGCAUGUUUUUGUGGAACUAUCGACCAAAGGCUCAGCUUCCUUUGCAGCAAUUUUACUAUCACAUGCCAAAUCCUUCCUUUUCCUACGAUUCCUCCGUGACUUUUUCAAAGAUGAAUCCCCAUUGCUUACAACCGAGUGACUUGUAUGAACACCUUCCUUAUCAGCAUGUGGUGCUGAAUUCAACUCACUAUCUAUGUUUUCCUUAAAAUCAUCACGACCCUUCUUUCUUUUAACAUUCAACAACUCAUCUUGAGUCCCUAAAUCAUCAACAUUUAACUUAGCUAUCUGAUGAUUCUGAUCAACAAGACCUACUUUACCAGCAGACUGAUCUGGCAGCUUCAGUACCUGACCACCUUCAAAUUUCUUUCGGCCCACAAAACCCCGUUUACGCCUAGGGAUUUGAAUAACAUUAUUACCCAAACUAAGUGAUGAAACGCCAUUAAACCCACUACCGCUAUCCAAUAUCUGGCUCGACCCACAUUUCACCGCCUCUGGGUCAUGUGAACCAGAAUUCAACCCACUAUGAUACACUUCAUCUAAACUCUUCUUGCUACUAGUAUUAACAUUCUUCAAACUACUGAGAGACACCUCUUUCCUACUCUUCUUCUUCUUGUCCCUGUUCUCAUCACCAUCCUCUGCACUACCUUUUCUCUUCAAGCUCUUGGUUGGGACCUCUUUUGUAGUCCUGGAUUUGUACAAACUCUUAAGAUCCAAAGAUCUCGAUUUCCUGGGAAUUUCAGUGCCAUGUGAGUUCUCUAUUCUAUUUUCCAUCAACAAUCCCUCAAUCCAAGCACCCAAACCGAGAAAACCCAAUUUUCACAUUCCAUCAUACAUGCCCCUACACAGUUUUCAGAUCUGUUACAGCAAAAGCAAGGCAAAAAUUACAAAAGUCCCCCAAAUAAAACCCAAAAACCAAGCGAUCACACCCUAUUCCCCCACGCAUUGAGAUCAUUUCCGAAAAAACGUUAAAAUUUUCAUAAAAAUUCAAAAUAAUAAACUCAAUCACAAGCGUACCUUAACCGUAAUACAACGAAUCAUCGGUUCCCCAAAAGAAUUGAGAAAAUCAUGAACGCGAAGCAUCAACUAGGGUUCGAUUCCUGACCUCCUGAUUUGAAACCCUAAUGUAAUUCCCCAAUUUUCGAAUUUAAUUUUCGAUAAUUGUUGAAAUUUCAGCUUUUUUUUUCACCGUAAGAGACGGGACGAGAGCUAGGGUUUCUUCGGUUCCACGAGAGUAAGGGUUUUGAUCGAAAAUAACGAAAAAAAUGAAAACAAAAUGGAAAAUAGCGAAUCCUUUGGAUAAUACCACGUGGCGAUAUCUGGAACGUCCGAUUGGUAAGUCGAUGUGGGGAACUCAAUUCCUCCGCUUCAUUUUGUACCAUAGUCGGCUAGAGCUUAACAAUUUCGUGCCAAAUAAGCUGAAAAUGGACGGUCAGAUUUCAUAUAAAAAAACGAACGGUUCAGAUUGGAUAAAUAUUCAUAAUUUUUUGAAAAAUAGUAAUUAAUGAAAAGAGUUGGUUUGCGGUACUUAAAACUCGGCCUCAUUGUACGUGAAAUAUCGGGAAUGCCAUUGCGUUUGAGAAAUGAGGCGCCAGAAAGGAAACAUAAACUCGCUUUAAGGAAGCGACACGUGGUGGGUAAUGAGCUUGGGUCUAUCAAAAGAGCUUGGAGGAGCGCGUGAGCACAGUGUUGAAGCGGGCGUUUCUAGCAGUGCCCGGAAGCCAAUAUAACCGCACGCAGUGACGUGGUCAAAGGAAACAAACGAAUUAAGUAGGUACAGGGAAGCAGCGAGCAGUUAUUGUCUACGUCGCGCUCUAAUUACUGGGUGUUGAAACCGAUCGCAUAUGCGUAUCAUGUGAAUAUGACCCACCGGCCUAAAGUUUCCUUCAUUGGGAAGGAAGAAAUGCGAUGUGUAACAUGUAAAAACGAUUCAUGGCCUAAAUUUUUUUGAUAAGGGUUGUGCAAUAAUUUGGACAAAUUUAAUGAGGUCUAAAGUUGAAUGUGAAAUAUUUUGAUGAGCAUUAGGUGUGAGGUGCAUAAAGUAUGAAUUGUUUGCAUGCGUUUUGAAUUUUUUAUUAUUGUUUUAAAUGAAAAUGGUGAGAAUUAUGCUUAAGGUAAAAAUUGAUAUUCAUAACUUGUAGAAAAGAAAGUUUAAUUAUAUGUUGACAACAACAAUAGUGCUAAGUUUAUCAAUUUUGUUCAUUAAACUAUAUUCUUAUAAAAUUUAUAGUAUGUCUAGAUUUGAAGAAACGAUAAAUUGUUGCAUUAUUUUUGUAAGCAAAAUUUGAUGAUUGUACCAACAUUGAAACACAAAUUGUUUUUCUUGUGCGAUCAAACUUUUGUCAAGUUAGUCAUAUCAAAACUACAUUUUACAUUACCAAAUACCAACUCAAAAAACAAGGUUCUUCGAUGAUUCUCAUAAGUCAUGUCAAAUUGAAAUUUCAUAACUCGAUUAAAUGCAACCAAUGAUGGUUUUAAAUUUCGUGAUUUGUAAUAUAAUCUAGGGUUAUUCGCAGCAAUGGUCCCUCAACUAUACCCAUAGUUACAUUUAGGUCAUUGAACUCAAUUAUUAGUUGCAGACGUCACUCAAUUAGGUGUUGUGUUGCACCAUUAGUCCUUCCGUCAAAUUCUGUUAAAUUUUUUUGUCAAAAGUAAGGAUAAAUUCGAAAAUUCAUUCACAACCCUCCCCUUCCUCCACAACCCUUCAUUGCUGCAACCCAAUCUUUGCCGACACCAAAAAAUUCAAUUAAAAAGAUGCCGCACAGCAACAAGAAUAUUUUCAAAUAUUCAUAAUAAAUACCUUCAGACCAGCAAACAGAUUCAAGAUCUCUCAUUUUACCUUCAGACCAAUCCUUCUCCUAAAUCACAUCGGUCUUCCAUAAUCUUCGAACCCAAUUCAAAUACACCAAUUUAAAACCCGACCCUUUUGCAAGAGCCGAGCCACUAAAUCUAACUCAUGGGUGCUAAAAAUUGUAGACUUUUGAAACAAAAAUGAACAAGGGUAAGUGCUGAAAUGAUUAAUCUUUGGACCUCCCCGAGGGAGCAAACAAUAAUGGAAGGUUGAACCAUAGGUUCGGCACAAGAGGAAUCUUUUUUAGACUCGGUUCGCUGUCAGUUUGCAAACCAUCGAGAGGUUGAGAUGGAAGAGGGGUUGGUAGGUUAGGGUUUUGAAGUUUUGUGUAGAAGAUUUGUGAGAAUUUUUAUUAUUUGAUAUUCAAUUUAAAUUUCUGAAUUUAUAAAUUUACAAAUUUUGAAGUUGUGGAGGAUAGGGAGGGUUGUGGAUAAAUUUUCGAAUUUACCCUCACUUUUGACAGAAAAUUUAACAAAACUUGACGGAAGGACUACUGGUGCAACAAAACACAUAUUUGAGUGACCUCUGCAAAUAAUAAUUGAAUUCAAUGACCCAUAUGUAACUACGGGUAUAGUUGAGGGAUCAUUGCUGCGAAUAACCCUAUAAUCUAGGUUUUGGCAAUAUCUUUAUUCAUACUCUUUAAUGAAGGGUUUUCUACUGCUGCAGAUGUAAAGUUUCUUAUUAAUUAACUUUUGUGAAAUGCUCUAUUUUGUGAAAAAUGGUCUCAUAUUCUAAAAUUAACUUAGAGGGAUGGAGAUUCGAACUCAGAUGUAGAGUGGGAAACACAUCUGUUCUAGUCAACUUGGCUAAGGGCUAGUUUGGAAUUCUGUCACUUAAAAAAAAAAGUUGUGUAUUAUGUGCUUUGAAAAUAAUUAGUUGUAAAGUAAAGUAGCUCCAUGUUUUUAGUAAACAAUUUUUUAAAGUGUUAUUAGCACAAAAAGCAAUGUCAAAACAGUUUGGUAAAUUUUAAUAUAAAAUUAUUAUAACUAUGAAUAAUGACUAAAAUAGACAUGAUAUUGAAGUAUUAUGUGCUAAUCAUGUGGUGGUGUUUGGGCCUAAUUUGGCACAGAUGGUGGUGGUUAUGAAGGUGAAGGUGGUGGUUAUGGUAUUGGUGGUGGUGGGGAUGGUGGUUGUGGAGGUAGAGGUGGUGGUGGUGGUGGUGGUAGUGGUUAUGGUAGUGGUCGUGGCGGAGGAGGUGGUGAAGGUGGUGGAGUUGGAUGUGGAGGUGAAGGUAGUGUCAUUUUUAAAAAUGAAUUAUGGUAUUUUGGGAAUUAAAAAAAAUCAUUACAUGCUCAUCUCUACUUAUUUUGAAAGCAGCUUUGAAAAGCAACACAUAACCUGCUUUUAAAACAUGCUGUCAAAAGGCCACUGUUUUUUUUUUUUUGAGAAAUCUAUGAUUGCAUUCAUAAUUCAGCCAAAAAAGUCAUUAGCCACAAAGGGCCAAUACAAACUAGCUACAAAAGGGCCAUUACAAUAAAAAGCGGUCUAAUAUCAAAAUUAAGAAAAUUAGGUAUGUCUCCACUAACGAUCAGGCAAGAUCGAAGAAAUUUUGGUAUAGGCAUUCCAACUAAGAUUGCAAAUUUAGAAUAAUAAAAAAGAGAUAAAGCUUGAAAAAACUAAAUCAUAAUAAUACAAAUCAAACUCUCACCGAUGAGAGAUGAAAAGCUCUCACAAAGGAGAGAUGAAAAACUUUCACAAAAGGAGAGGUGAAAACUACACAGAGAACCCAAAGAGUCUCUGCAACUUAUUCCAAACAUAAAAAAAUUGCAAAAAAGAUGGUGGUGGAGAUCCGAAGCCGAAAUGCAGGUGAAGAUCCGACGCUGAGCCGCAACUGCAUAUAAUGGUUGAAUGAAAAUCAUAACAAAACUAAGACAAAUAUGGAAAACCCUUUAUCUCUGAAAAUGGGAGAAGAGAUGAAAGGAGGAAGAGAGGAAGAGAAGAGGGGAGAGGGGGGAAGAGCAAUGGCUUCCUCCCCCUUCAAAGUGGAAAAGGCUCAAAGAAUGUUUUUUUGGGAGAAAGGGGGCUAGGGUUUGCACAAUUGGUUUGCUUAACCCUUAUCAGUCAUCGAGGCUAAGUGGAGAUGUUUGCAUUUCUCCAAUGUUUUAAAAAUAAGCAGGAUAUUUUAUUUUUACCAAAUACCUUAAAUUGCUUAACUUUAAAGAAAGCAUAUUUUUGGCAUAAAAAAAAAAUAUUCCCAAAGGAGGCCUAAACCUAUGUCUGCAAACAUGUCAUAUUUUGUUGCAUGAAAUUUCUCUAUUGUAUAUAUGGUGAAAUAAGUUUCGCCAAUAUGGGGGUUCGAAUAUGAGACAAUGGUAUACAAGUCAAUACCUUUUCUCACUCGGCUAUACUCCAUUUUUUUUUGGCCAAAGGUAGUACAAUAUAAAUCAAUAAAGUAAUGUGACUAUAAAAACCAUAGUUUAAGAUAUCAAUAAUAUCAACGAAAUAUUCAGUAUAUUAUCGUUUUUUCGAGUCACAGAUAUUUCAGAAUGUAUUCAUAUACAUAUUGUAUAAAUAUCGAUAAUGUUGAAAAAUAUUAAUGUCGAUAAUUUCGCUUACACUUCAACAAUAUUUUGUCAAAAUAUCGCUAUAAUAUCAAAAAUAUCAAAAAUAUCGAUGUAAUGGAAAAAAGUGAAAAAAACAUAAAGCACACGCAAAGGGGAUUCAAACCUUUGCCAUUUCACUCCUCCAACAUCUUAACCACCAUAUUUCUUAUGUUUUUGUGAUAAUAUGCUGAAAUAUGUAUAUUUAUAUUGUUUUGUUUCCCUACAAGAAUUAGAUUUUCACAUAAGAAUGUGAGUCUUUAACUUUUCCUUUUGGGAUGGAAUUGAGCGGCUCAUAGAAAGAAUCUGAGACCCAAUCUUCAAAUGAUUUUGCUUAUGGACAAUGUCAAUAAAUCUCGGAUCCAUAGGUGACAUGUUAACAAUUACAUGCAAAACUAUUUUGGGGAUUUAUCAUUUGAUGACUACUCUUCGCAAUACACUUACUCUACACAUAGAGAUAUAGUGAAAAAUUUGAACCUCAUAGGAACUCUAUGUGGUACUAAGUCACUCAUGUAUCUUAUCAUACAAUGUAUAAAGUGUAAAAUAUUAUAGUAAAUUAUUAUAUAUAAAUGAUUAUAGUGUGUUUAAUUUUUUUCAUUAAUUACUAUAUAUUUUCUACACUCACAAUGUUUGUCAGUUCGCUAUGUAAUCAUUAAAUCAAUUAAACCCAUCAUGUAAUGCAUUUCCUUCCAAUUUUUUAUAAUAAACUAAUAGAUAAUUGACUAAAUAAACAUCCUCCAAAAUUUCAAUAAAAAUUUUCAAGUUUUUCUAACAAUUUUCGUGGUUUUUAUUCAAUUGUUAUAUAUCCCGAUAUUUCCAUAGAAAAUUUCUUGUUUUUAGAUUACCGAUAUCUUCAAUACCAUCGAUAUUUUAGACCUUGGUAAAAAUAACAUCUCACUACACCCAACUUGAAUACACUUUAAUUUAUGAUUGAAUACAACUAAAUUUAAAUAGAUAAAGUAUAAAUUGAAUACAUUCAGAUUUUUCAAGACUUCUAUAAAAUCUUGAUUGAUGCUCAUAGACUUUUAAACUUUUUAAAAAUCGUUUAAAAUCUAAACUGAAUCACACGAAAUUAAAAUACUCAGUUACUUCCAAACAAAAAAACCUUAACACUCACCAAAAAAUAAAUGAAUAAAACAAUGUACAUCUGUAAUUUUCCAAGAGAUUCUUGGAUCCAUAUGGUACGAAAAAAAUUAAAUAGAAAUCAAGGGACCAUUCUGCAAAAACUCCCAUCCGACGAUAUUGCAGUAAAUUUUUAGUUUUUAGUUUUUGGUCAGAAUAACAAAAUUUUGUUCAGCUACAGCUCCCACGACGCGCAACAAGUGUUCUCUGUUUCCCGCAAGAUUAAAUUUUGCAUUAGAUCUAACCUCGCAUCAAAAUCUCUUCAAUUUCACCCCCAAACAUUUACACACGUGAACUCGCAUUCGCUCGCGCGAUCUCGAUCCAGACGCAGCGUUUCACCUUCCCGCGAGCUCUUUUCCCGAAUCAGUUUCUCUUCACUUUGCUAAGAGAACUUCAAUUCCGCGGGUCUAGGGUUUCAGAUCUCGCUCUCGCGGAGGUAAUUUCGCUAUUUCCUGAUUUAAUUUCCCUUUUUGCUGUUUGGAUGCCGAGAAGGAUGGGAAGGCCGAACAAAAUGAGGGUUUUGAUAUGGUUUUUCAAUCAAAUUUCGCAUCACCUAGGCCAAAUAGAAACUAUGACACUUAUAUGAUAUAAAAUGUCUAAUUGAGCAGCCAUUUGAGUAUUGGAGUGAAUUUAUGCGAUUUCAGGUGGUUAUGCUAUUGUAGAAUUGCAAUUUGAAGAUUUAGGGUCUGGAAAAUGCAUGCGAAAGCGGCACAAUCGUCUUUUAGGGAUCGGACGCAGGAGUUUCAGAGUGUAGCAGAGAGGCUAAAAAAGUCGUUCUCAUCAGGACCAGGGUCGGGGCAGAAUGGUCCAAGUAGUGGAUCGAAAUCGAAAUUCGAGGAACAACGUUCUGUGGUUGCGGUUCAGUCCGAGUUCAAUAAGAGGGCUUCCAAAAUCGGGUACGGGAUACACCAGACAUCGCAGAAGCUUGGAAAGCUGACUAAGUGUGAGUUAUUGAUGAUUGGUAGUACAAUUGUAAUUGUUUUUUAUUUGAAAUUGGAGACAUUGCAAAUUUAUUUAUGCGGUGUUUGCUUAACUUAUAUCUGAAAAAGGUCUCUGGAGCAGUCAUUGACUUGUGCUUGUUGUCAUGAAUGACUUUAACAUAUUCUCAUGUUCUGAUCGAAAGCAAGAACCAGUUGCAUCUCUGCACCUGACUUUUAAAAGGAAAUUCAUGGCUCAAAGUUGCAAAACCAUACCCCUAAUAUAAUAUAUAAUCACACUGACAUAGGGCGUUGCCUCUGUUCUCAACCCUCUAUUUGGUAGAUUGGGAGCUGAUGGACCAGGCUUCAUCCCCUCCUUGGAAUGUUCCGGAUGAUGAUUAAAUUAGGUUUAAUUUCUUUCCACUGUAAAGUGUGACUACCUGGAAGGGCGUCGAAUUUUUUUGAAUAUUGGUGGUUUUUGUGUUGCUAUUGCUAUAGUUAAUUAUGAUUGAGAAAUGUUUAUCUAUUUAUUUUAAGGUAUUUGUCUUGUCAUGUAGUGGCAAAGAGGACUUCCGUGUUUGAUGACCCUACCAGGGAAAUUCAGGAGCUGACAGCAGUUAUCAAGCAGGAUAUUACUGCACUUAACUCUGCAGUGGUAGACCUUCAGCUUCUAUCCAACUCCAGAAAUGACAGUGGGAAUAUUUCUAGUGACACGACUAGUCAUUCAACCACAGUUGUUGAUGACUUGAAAAAUCGGCUUAUGAGCACUACAAAAGAGUUUAAAGAAGUCCUCACCAUGCGGACUGAGGUAAGGCCUAAUGUUGCUGAAUAUUAAUUCCUGUCCAGUUAGGCUGGUGAUCUUAGUAUGAGAGAGCUCUGCUAUUGCUGCUCCUUAGGUUAUUUUCUAAGACUAACGUAUCUUUUCUAUUGAUUUUGUGAAGAAUAUGAAGGUUCAUGAGAAUAGAAGACAAUUGUUUUCUGCUUCUGCAUCUAAGGAUGCUGCAAAUCCUUUUGUUCGUCAGCGUCCACUGGCUGCCAGGUCAGCUGCUAGUUCUUCAAGUGCCUCUCCUCCUCCAUGGGCUAAUGGAUCACCAUCUUCAUCACAGUUGUUCCCCAAGUAAGAGAGUAAUUUUUUUGUUUUUUGCAUUUUUUUUUGGUUCAGCUGUGGAUAACUGAUACCCUUUAAGUGCAUGAGUAGCUAUGUUUAUCAGACAUCAAGUACAUAGGUGAUUUUUGUGAUUGUUGCAUUGUCAAUAUUGUGGUUUGUUUUCCCUGAAUUUCUCAAUAAUUGUCGCAACUGCAUGCACCCUUUCUUCUUCUUGAACAUCCUGAAAAUUACUGACCCCUCUGUCUCUCUCCCUUUUUUUUUGUUAUGAUGUUAAAGAUUAUCUCAGUUCACGGUAUCGAAUUCUAAACUAAUUUAUUUAUUCUUUCAUAGCUGUUUGACCAUUUCUUGUCAGGAUUUUGUUUUUCAAAUUUUUUAUUGUGAUCUGCUUCUGUUGUGGGGCCUGUAACUUCUUAAGUUGAGAUGACUUGAUUCAGUGAUCAAAAUUUGAGAUUGUAUCUUGUGGAACAUUUAUUGGUUUCUAAUUUUACAGGAAGCAGACGGAUGGGGAGAGUCAGCCAUUGCUCCAGCAGCAGCAGCAACAGCAACAGCAACAACAGGAGAUGGUUCCGUUGCAAGAUAGUUACAUGCAGAGCAGAGCUGAAGCUUUGCAAAAUGUUGAGUCCACUAUUCAUGAGCUAAGCAAUAUUUUCAACCAGCUGGCGACCUUGGUGUCUCAGCAAGGGGAGAUUGCCAUCAGGUUUUAAUCUAAUUCCCGUAUCUUACUUUGAUGUGGAAUUCAGUGGUUGUGUUCUAAACAGAUGGAUCACUUUUUAUUAUUAGGUAUUUCACACACUACCUUUUUUACUGUUACUUGUCAAGUGAUUGUUAAUUUUGCUAUAUAAGUCAUUAUAAUCAUCAUCCUUUCUAAACCACUAAAUGUUAUGUUAAAUUGUUCUAUUUUUUAAGGACAUCAGAAGCUAAGAAAUAAUACUUAUCUGAUAUUUGAGCUCCAUUUGACCCCCAUGACAUAAUCAUUUAGUCAAACAAAUCUGAGUAACAAGUUACCGUUGAUCAUGGGUAAAAGUAUUGCCCAGUAAAUUGGUUUGUCUCUGACCUCGGGGGUUCUGACAGUUUACUCAAGCAGAUUAUAAAUGGAAAAUUGAAGGCAGCUUAUAGUUCACUUGUUUAACAUUUUUUUCGAUAAGAUGGAUAGCUUAUCAUUCAGGUUUCCAUGCAUUCAGUACAAUUGCUAUAUGUAUAUUUAUAGUUUUCAUUUGGUCCCAAGGUUUUUUUUUUUCCAGAUGGUCCUAAGGUUUCUAGUCAGACAGAAAAUUUAUUGUGGAAAUUGCUAAUCUCGAUGGUCCUACUGCAUCUGUCGGGUGUUUCUGAUGACUUUGAUAGCUAUGGGCAUAUAAUUGUUUAUUGCAUGGUUGAAAAGCGCGACUUUGACAAACAGAGAUGGUUUUCCUAUAAGUAGUGUUCCUCUAACACUUGACUUUGAUUCAACUGGAAUCUUGAUGAUGGCAUUUCUUCCUGCAGGAUUGAUGAGAACAUGGAUGACACGUUGGCGAAUGUGGAGGGUGCACAAGGGGCACUGCUCAAGUAUCUGAAUAGCAUAUCAUCUAAUAGGUGGCUGAUGAUCAAGAUAUUCUUUGUACUAAUUUUUUUCCUCAUGGUUUUCCUAUUUUUUGUGGCAUAGUCAUUGCAAAGACAUUAAAAAGAAGGAAGAAAAUGACAAUGCUUUUUAGUAUUUUUACUGUCGAUAGGCCCUUUCCAUUCUUUUUGUAUCCUCUUUUUGCUUGAUCGGAUGUUCACGCGGGCAUAAACGAGAUAAGUACCUGAUUCUCCGUAUUGUAAUAUAUAUAUGUACGGGAUACAUGUAAUUGUAAAAUUUGUUGAGAUCAAUGUGACUGGCAAAAACUAUUAAUUUAUCUGCUCUUAUUGUUCUAUAUCUGUUUGGAUUUUUUUUUCGGUCGAAAUAUAUCUGUUUGGAUUUUAGUUCCCAGGAAGACUGCCUUCUACCGACCCUAGCAGAAGUAUAGAUGCUUGCUUUUUGUAAGUAAAGUCAAAAAGGUAAGAGAAAAUAGAGAGUAGCUUCUUUGUGUUCUUUGUUUUUUCUUUCCUAGCAGAGCACAAAAAACCCGUGGAGACCAAUUCUUCCGAACUUUGACCUAGAUGAAAUCUAUUUGGUAACAUAUUUUCUUAAUUCUAGUUACAUGGUCACGUACACCCUAUUUCUUGAAGAUGAAUAUUCCACUGUAAAAAGGUGCAUCCAUAGUAAAUGGAUAAAAAUCAAAUAUGAAAUAACAUUUAGAAAAAAGAAAUUUUUUUCCACUGAGGGAGGAUGCUAGUGACAUUUAGAAAAUCAAAUAUGAAAUAAGAAAAGUCAUCAAUGGAGUCUAGGCACUGAAGUUUAAAAAAAAUUUGUUUUCACUUUUAAAAUUACAUAUACAUAAAUUAUACUAACAAUUCUUCUCCGGACGUCCAUACCUUAUUACCGUCAUUGUAUAUGUAUACAGUUUCUAACAUUGUGGUAUUUGGUUUGUUUUAAUAGAAAAACGUGUUGCUUUUCAAUUGCAAAGAGAAGGAAACCAAGAUUGAACAUGCUUGGCUUAUGGAAAGUAAGACAUGAAAAUAAAAAUAAUACGACAUGAAAACAAAAUACAAGAAUAAAUAAUAAUAAAAAAAACAGUAAAUGUUUAAAAAAAAUAAAACAUGAAAAUAUUAAAAACAAACAAAAAACAAAAGCAGAAAAAUAAAAAAACAGAGGACGUACAUUGGUAUUAGUUUGAAAUGUUUUACAAAGUUGAGACCAGCUUGAAAUUACCCGUAAACGUUGGGACUAGUUUGAAGAACAAUAAGUUGGAGGACCAAUCGGUAAAAAGCAAAAACACAGCCACCUAUAUAAGCUCCUCUUCGGCACUCCAUUACGUUAUCCAGUCCUCUUCAAUUUAGCCCUACUUUGCAAACGUAACCAACUCAUCCCCCUUCAUCCUCCAUAGCUCCCUCUCCCUCAUUCUCUCUUCAUAUUAAUAAUCCCAAUCCCUAAUUUCACCAUCUGCUCCAAACCCCAAUUUUUCCCUUCACUUCCAUCACCAGCCCUCACAAUCCCCGCCAAAUCUCCGAUCUCCGACUCUCUCUCGAUUUCCCGCGAUCAAAAUUUUGACACCACCAAAACUCCGAGAAUUUUCGUCGGUUUAAUUUAUCUUUUAAUUUUUUAUAUAUAAUAUUGUUUGGUUUCCGUUCAUCAAAGGCUCGAAACCCUAAUUGUAAACAAAGUUUAGCUUAUUCAAUUUUCGCGAUAAUCGAGUCUUGCAAAUUUGUGAAUUGAAAAACCGCGAGGCUUCACACGCAUUUUCUCGGUUCCCGCAUAGUUUGGCUGAUCUCGAGUUGUUGAAACAGAGAUGGUUGGCGGUGGAAGCAGGAGAGACGAGGGCUCGCUCGUCAUCAACAACACCAACGUGUUCGCGGCGCUCGAGACUCUGAGGAAGAAGAAGAAGUCCGAUAAGGAUCGCAAGAGCAAAGGGUCCUCCAAGUCGGCCCAGUCGGCCCAGCCCAAGGCGCCCGAGGCCCAGGUUUUUUGGGCUCCGGCUCCCUUGAACGCGAAAUCGUGGGCCGAUGUGGAUGACGAAGAUGAUGAUGACUAUUACGCCACAACGGCUCCGCCUCAAUCCGUUUGGGGACCUUCGGAGCCCCACCAGAAUAAGGACAGGCCAAAUGUAGAGGUCAGAACUUCGCUUAAUUUUAUUUUUUCUGUUGAUGUUUGGUAUCUGAAUUUUGUGUUUUAUUCGUUAGUUUGUUUGAUUUUUGUUCACUAAAGAUAUUUUCUGAUAGACGGAAAUGAAUUGAUGAAUAGAGAUAGUGUAGUUGGGUAUUGAUGUUACUCUAAGAACUAUGGAAAUGCCAACUUUGCAAGACUUUGGCUUAAUAGAGGAAAACGUUGGUUGGUUCUUUUUCCAGAAAAAGAAAAACCAAGCUAAUGAGUUGCUGGGGGAAUGUUCUUAGUUUGGCUUGUCGGUUGUUUAAGGAGGAAGUUCGUGGAGGCAUAUCUUAAGAUUUGUUAUUGUGAUCAAAGUGCUGAUUUCCGGUGGAGAUCAAACUUCUGCUAUAAGGAAAGCAGAAGCAAAGCGAUUGUAAUUCAUAUUGUUAUCCAAAUGUUAAAGAUGGAGUUCGAUGGGUGAAAAGUGAUUAGGUUUCGUGUGGAAUGAGGAGAUACUCUGUGUAUGCGAGUGUCGGUAAAUGCUUGUAACAUGAGUUUUCAAGGUGGACUGCAUUCGUACUUCUACAAUGUAGCUAUGUUGGCUGCUAGUUAACCUUCAAAGUGAGGAGAAGGGCAAAAUAGUUGGAAUCGAAGGCUGAAAUGUAGCCGAGUAUGUUUCAUAAAUACUCAUUCCUUUAUUUUCAUAAGUUGUUUACACGACAUUCUUUGUUUCAUUGAGAUGGCCUUUUCUAUUGGACUAUGCAUGUCACUUUGUAUGGUUAUACAUUUGUCACAAAAUUGCAGGCAACUGAUGAAACGCUUUGAAGGAAACCUGAAUGAAGUUCUUAUAACUGCUUGUCAAUUUGUGAUUACAGGAUAGUGAGAGUGAAGAAGAUAUUCUUGAUGAAGGUGAUGAUGAUGUAGAGGAAGAGCAUGAUAAUGAACCAGAGGUGCCAGUAAACCCUGAGCCAGUGCUGAAGAAGCCUGCUGAUGUUCCUGCGCCACCUAAGGAGGCAGAAAGGCAACUUUCAAAAAAGGAAAAAAAGAAAAAGGAACUUGCAGAACUUGAGGCCCUUCUGGCUGAUUUUGGAGUUACUCAAAAGGAGAGUGAUAGUCAAGAUGAAUCACGUGGUAAUUGUGAACAAUUAUUUCCUAUAAGUUUUACUAUAGUGAUCAGCAAUUUUUUGCUUGGUUCAGUUUUGCUCUUAUAGUGCUUUUUUCUAAAGUUAAGAAAGAAUAAAAACUGAAUGUUACAAUGAUUUCAUUUUGUUAUUUAUGAAUUGAAAUUUGAGUUUAGGCAUACAAAGACACGAAGAUGGUUAAACUUUCUUUGUAAACAUUACACAUUCAUGUAUGGUAUGUGAUAUGCCAUUUGAAACACAUUUGUUGGUUAUCAUUCACCACACACAUUGAUUCUAAAGUAAGCUUAGAAUCAAUUGGCAAACAUAUGUUUGAAGGUGAAGUUGUGGUAUUUAUUUAUUUAUUUCUAGUCUUAUGGCAGAUGGUGGAGUCUUGUUUCUUAUUUAUUUAUCUAUUCUUGGCAUCAGAACCUCUACAGGCAAGGUUUCUUUGGUGUCACCUCAUGUUCAAUAUUCAACCUUUGUUAUGUUACAUUUGCAGGUGCUGCACAAGAGAAGGAUAGUGCGCUGAAUGGAGAUGGAGAAAAGAAGGAAAAUCAGCCCGCAGAGUCCAAGAGCGCCAAGAAGAAGAAAAAGAAAGAUAAAGCUUCCAAGGAGGUGAAAGAAUCUCAAGACCAACCAAACAACUCAGGGGCAACUAAUGGACUGGGUGAAGUUACUGCAGCUGAACAGACAGAGGAGGAUACAUCAAAUGUUGAUGUGAAGGAGCGAUUAAAGAAGGUUGUAACCGCGAAGAAGAAGAAGUCUAGUAAAGAGAUGGAUGCUGCUGCGAAAGCAGCUGCUCAAGAGGCUGCUGCUAGGAGAGCACGGCUUGCUGCAGCUAAGAAGAAAGAGAAGAACCAUUACAACCAGCAGCCCGUGCGGUAAAAGCCCAGUUUCGUCCAACAUUUUAUAUAUGAACAUGUAAUUUCUCUUUGUUCAUAUGACCAAAGUUGUGCGAAAUAAAGAGUGGGUAUGGCUCUGGUUUUGUGAAAGAUGACCUUUAAUUUCAUUGUGGUGGACUAAUAGGAAGUUUCCGUUUCGCUGUUCUCGAUCAUUUUUUUGCUCAGUUGUCAUGGGACGUAUGAAUCAGCCAGUUUUGCUCAUUGGAUAUUAUUCCCUGAAAAGUCGUUAACUUGAUAGCUCUCUGUAUUUUAGUUCUUCCUCCAUUUCUUUGUUACGAACUUAUUGUGUAUGAAUGGACACAAUGAGAAAUUAUUGCAUUCUAAUGGAGUGAGUUUUCCUCUUGAACUGAAACCCAAUAAUCUGAGCCUUGGUUUAAAAUAUUAGGUAUGCCAGUUGUGGGUGCAUCUGUUACAGCUUUCAACUUUAUUGUGAUCAACAACCUUAAGAAAUUUUUAUCCUUGCUGGUUUUGAUUUGGGGCGCUAACCAUACCUUGCCGGGGUUUGAUUCGAUGUCAAAUUAAAUCAGAUUACAUCAAAUCAGAUUCCCCCAAAUUCGACGUUUGUUCAAGUGGUACUUGCUAGGAGAUAAAAGGGAUAAAAGGGAAUUGACAAGUGAGCUAGGUUCUAGUGGUACUUGCUAGGAGAUAAAAGGGAUGAAAGGGAAUUGACAAGGGAGUUAGGUUGGGAAAUUGAAUGUAAUGAUUUAUAACUUAGGCGCGGUUUGGUUCAUGGAAUGAAUUUGAGGGGAAAUCAUUUCUUAUGUCUUUCCCCAAAGAAUGGGAAUGAAAGAUUUUUUUAUAAAUUUUCAAUUAUACCCAUAUUAAAUCAAAUAAAAAAAGAAUGCAUUUGAUGAUAUCAGUCCCGAUCUCUUGGACUACAGUGGUCCAAGAGAUUUGUGGUCACUCACCAUUAGAUGUAAAUUCAACGGUUCACUCACUCUUGUACUCAUUUUAAAAAACUUUUUUGAACCAUUGGAUUAAUAUCCAACGGUGGGUGACCACAAUCUCUUGGACUCCUGUGGUCCAAGAGAUUUGUGGUCACUCACCAUUAGAUGUAAAUUCAACGGUUCACUCACCAUUAGAUGAAUUUGAGGGGAAAUCAUUUCUUAUGUCUUUCCCCAAAGAAUGAGAAUGAAAGAUUUUUUUAUAAAUUUUCAAUUAUACUCAUAUUAAAUCAAAUAAAAAAAGAAUGCAUUUGAUGAUAUCAGUCCCGAUCUCUUGGACUACAGUGGUUCAAGAGAUUUGUGGUCACUCACCAUUAGAUGUAAAUUCAACGGUUCACUCACUCUUGUACUCAUUUUAAAAAACUUUUUUGAACCAUUGGAUUAAUAUCCAACGGUGGGUGACCACAAUCUCUUGGACUCCUGUGGUCUAAGAGAUCGGGACUGAUGAACCGUUGAAUUUACAUCUAAUGGUGAGAGUGACCACAAAUCGCAUGAUCCGUAGGGAGUUCAAGAAGAUAUGUAAGUCACCCACCGAUUGCAAAUAGUUCCAGUGUUACACUGAAGUUUUUAUAAUAUUGNNNNNNNNNNNNNNNNNNNNNNNNNNNNNNNNNNNNNNNNNNNNNNNNNNNNNNNNNNNNNNNNNNNNNNNNNNNNNNNNNNNNNNNNNNNNNNNNNNNNAAGUUCUCUGUUUUUUUCAUGACAUGUAUCACUUUUCUUGCACUUAAAAAUCACUCAUUUUCCUUGUGGCUAGGAUCAGCCACGAGUGAAAAGUAAGAGGCGCUUUAAUGUCCCAUUUGGUUCUUGGGAAUGAAAAAUCAAUUGUUUUCCCAUGUUUGGUAAGUCUAUGUAUGGAAAAUCGUUGUCUGGCUCAUGGGAAAGGAGAGGAGAAAGUAAAGUCAUCCUCCCAACAUGGGUUUUGUUUUCCCUCCUCAUGGGAAAGUUUGGGAAAAUGAGCUAACAUUAAAUACAUUUUUUUAUGAUCAUUUUAUUCCCAUUAACAAUUUAGAAUUACAAUAUAUCAUCAACAGUCCUGAUCUCUUGGACCACUGUAGUCCAAGAGAUCAGGACUGUUGAUGAUAUAUUGUAAUUCUAAAUUGUUAAUGGGAAUAAAAUGAUCAUAAAAAAAUGUAUUUAAUGUUAGCUCAUUUUCCCAAACUUUCCCAUGAGGAGGGAAAACAAAACCCAUGUUGGGAGGAUGACUUUACUUUCUCCUCUCCUUUCCCAUGAGCCAGACAACGAUUUUCCAUACAUAGACUUACCAAACAUGGGAAAACAAUUGAUUUUUCAUUCCCAAGAACCAAAUGGGACAUUAAAGCGCCUCUUACUUUUCACUCGUGGCUGAUCCUAGCCACAAGGAAAAUGAGUGAUUUUUAAGUGCAAGAAAAGUGAUACAUGUCAUGAAAAAAACAGAGAACUUUAAAAAGAGAAGGUUGCCACCGUCUCCUUUCUAAAUAAGAGACAUGGACAGAAAAUAAUGAUAGAUCCAUAUUAUUCUAGUUCAACCUUGUACGCUAUCGACAUGUAAGGUCAUUUUGGACAUUUCCUGCGUUCCACCGUGGCAUUUCCGUCACAAAUCCAAAAAUAUUGAUACUCCCUCCCCUUAAUUCCCAGUUGUUGUCACCAUGAAGAAGGAGAAAAAUAGAAAAAAAAUUUCAAAAGGGGGAGAAUAAGCCUAUAACAAACGGGCAAUUCAAGCAAAGCCGCAACGAAAAGGCCCAGAGCCUUCUUCUUAUUUGUCUCUCUUUGGUUCUCUCCCUCCUCUCUCUGAAGCAAACAACUGAAACAAACCCGCAAGCAACACCUGCAAUAAGCCUACAACCAGUCUCAGCGAAAAUGUUUCGUUUCAACACUCUAGGUUCCAUUUUCUGCUCACAAGUUUUCAUUUCUUGGUUUAGUUCUUCAAACGCUCGCGUUUCGUUUCGGUAAAUGAAAGUAGAAUAGAAAAGUUGGAAAUUUCGUGUUUGAUUGUGUGUUUUGGGUGCAAAACGAGUAGAGAGAGAGUCUAUGUGUCUGGUACUCUGCUCCGGAGUGAGAGUGACGAGCGGUUUUAGGGCUGUUUUUUCUAAUUAGUGAUUUAAUUGAAUGGCAACUCCCAAUUUCUGUGUAGUUCUUGGGUUGUUCAAGGCUUAGUGUUUACUGUUGAACAAUGUUUUCAUGAUUUGUAACUAGAAUAACGAUUAUUAUCUCUUUUACUUUCUAUCCAUUUGAUGCUAGUUCUGUACUUGGUGUGAAGUAUUAAUUGAAAAUCAACAUCUAUUUCCAUAGGGUUCAAAUGUCUUGCCGUUUCGUGAUUUUCUGAUUUGUUAGGGGACUAAGAGCAGCUCUUGGUCCCUGGCCGAUGACUUGCAAUUGGAUCUUGAUGCCUAAGGGAAGAUAAUGAGUGGAAAACUCCAUUGCCCAUUUCUUGGGGUUUCACUUCACAGUUCUCUAAAUGGUAGAAACAAUGGAAAUUUCAUUUGUUGGGAAAGAGGGAAUGUGGCAAAAAGGGCUCCUCGCAGGUGUGUAUGUGAAAAGCAGAAUUAUUGGAUUACCCAAGCAAUUAGAGUUUCACAGUUUUUGGGGAAAAAUGUGGAAUUGUUAAGGAGAACCUUCGAGCUGAAAAAUGGGAUGAAGGUACAAUGUGUUAAGGAGCCUUUUUCUCGAAGCAAGGCUCUGGUGAGGUCUUUGUCUCCUCUGUGGGAAGAGGGGUUACUUUUAGUUAGGUGCUCUGUAUUUUUGGCCGUGAUAUCUGGGGUAUGUUUAUUGGUAUGGUAUGGCCAAUCCAAAGCCAAGGGUUUUAUUGAAGACAAGCUUUUGCCUUCUGUUUGUUCAGUACUCAGUGAAUAUAUUCAGCGUGAAGUUGUUUUUGGUAAGGUUCGAAGGCUAUCACCUUUGAGCAUCACGCUGGAGUCCUGUUCGGUUGGGCCUCAUAGUGAGGAAUUUUCUUGUGGUGAGGUCCCAUCAAUGAAACUUCGCCUUCGUCCUUUUGCAAGUCUAAGGAGGGGAAGGAUUGUGAUUGAUGCAGUUUUGUCACAUCCAACUGUCUUGGUUGCGCAGAAGAAGGAUUAUACUUGGUUAGGGAUACCCUCAUCUGAAGGUGGUCUACAGAGGCACUUAUCUACUGAAGAAGGAAUUGAUCAUCGAACGAAAACCCGGAGGCUUUCUAGAGAGGAAGCGGCGGCUCGCUGGGAAAGAGAAAGGGAUGAAGCAGCAAAGAAAGCUGCAGAGAUGGGCUACAUUGUUUCUGACAAGGCUUCCAGCCCAUCAAAAGGGGAUGACUCAAAGGAAGGUGAUAGCCAUUCUGCAGAUUUAGCAAGUUCCGAGUCUUUUCCAUGCAUGGAUGAAAAGAUGCACUGGAGGGAUCAUUGCAUGGACACAGGUGUUGAUUAUGAAAUAAAGCAUGCAGAUUUGGAGAAAUCAUUGGGUGUAAAAAUUCCUGGGUCAGGGCUUAAAUUUUGGUCCAGAGUGAUAAAGGGGCCUAAAAAGCACAAAGUUAAAAGGAAGGGUUAUGGGAGUGAUAUCUCUGCAUCUGGAAUUACUGCCAAAAGAAGAAUUCUCCAGUCCAGUGCAGUAAGGGCACUUGCAUAUUUUCAGGAUCUAUCUCAGGGGAAGACUGACGAGCCUUCACAGUCAUCCGGCGGUUAUGAUGUGAUCAACCUUGACUCCUAUUUGAUGAACAAUGUGGUUGAAACUAAUGCCGACACUUCUAUCACAAGUACUGGUGAAGAUACUACAAGAGAUGACAACCAGGAUGGAAAACAUUGUGGAGAUUCAGCAGGCCAUCCUCUUAAAGAAAAUGAGAAUGUCAACAGUCAUUUAAGUAGUUCGAAUUAUAUACAUUUAAAUAGGUCUAAUGGAGACGGGACAUCCAGUAAAAAUUCCGCUUUCUCUGCAAAUGCUGUAGGAACUAAUACUAAUAGUUGUAAUGUAAAAGAUGAGGAUUCUAGAGUUGAUGUUGUUAAUAAGCAUACUGAUGAUGAGAUAUCUGAGAGGCAAGCAGGUCAAACGUUGCAGAAUUCAACUUCCAUACUACCUUCGGUUGCAACGUAUGAUCAAGUUCCUAUCUGGCCCCUAAGCCUGAAAUUAGGCUUUCCCUCUUUUUCUAGAAAUUCCGGAGAGCCAUUAUCACAUCUUCUCUCUGGUUCCAUUCAAAAGUUGACGUCUAGCAUGGGAACGAGAGUUGAUGAUAUUGUUGCAGAACUCGUAGAUGGGGUCAGUGUUGUGCAAUCUGAAGGCAUUGAGAAGAUGCUUCCAGUUACACUAGAUUCAGUACAUUUCAAAGGAGGAACGCUGAUGCUACUUGCAUAUGGUGACAGGGAACCUCGGUAGGGCCACUCAAUUAUAUAUUUUCUUAAUUUAAACUUGAGAAUAACAUUAUUGUUUGCUGGCUCUUAUCAUAAAAAGUUAUUUAUUUAUGCAACAGAUGCUGGCUUUGCUUGAAAAUUUUAUUGCUGUUGGAAUUUUGGCAUAUAGGAUAGAGGUUUAUCUAUAAUCAUUAGGAUACUCAUCUUUUAAGAGGCUUCCUAAUUAAAAUAUGGUAAACUUUUCUGUGUAUAAUGACAAUGCAUCCACUUAUGCAAAGUUUAUAACAAGAAAAUUUUUCAUUGAGCAUUUAUGAUUUUAAUACAAUGUUUAUAGUGCGAUGGAGAAUGUUGAUGGACACGUGAAGUUUCAAAAUCACUAUGGUCGGGUUCAUGUACAACUUAGUGGAAACUGUCAGAUGUGGAGGUCCGAUAACAUAUCUGAAGAUGGUGGCUGGUUGUCUGCAGAUGUUUUUGUUGACAUGGUUGAACAGAAAUGGCAUGCUAACUUAAAAAUUGCCAACCUUUUUGUUCCGGUAAGCGAGACACUACAAAGUAAAUAUGAUGCCUAAUUGAGAUUGCCAACACCUUUUUGUUUCCAAUCUGAGGUCAUAAAGUUUGUUCAUGUGCCUUGUGUGCUGGUUGUCUCUUCUUCUGCAGCUUUUUGAACGGAUCUUAGAAAUUCCAAUAAAUUGGUCCAAAGGAAGAGCCACUGGUGAGGUGCUUCUCGAACUUCAAUGCAUAAUUUUUUGUUUUUCUCUUCUAAAUUUGAUGGGGGCACAUCUCCGGUUUAUGCCUCUAAAUGGGUUAUGUUGAUUCUGUUGCUGAAGUAAUUACUUGAAUUCAUUCUUUGAGGCAAUUGCUGCUUCUUGAUUAUUCGUAUUUUUUCCUAAUUUGAUAUAAGAUUUUGCACAUCUGAAACCACGAAAUGCCACAUUUUCUUCUUGAAACUGUAAUUUCUCAUUUGACAUUUAGGUAGGAGGAAAAAGAUCCAUGUUUUGUUGAUCUUGAGAUAUAUUAUGUACUUCCCCACUUUUUUCAGGUUCACUUGUGCAUGUCAGGAGGAGAAACAUUUCCAAAUCUUCAUGGACAGCUUGAUGUGACAGGGUUGGCUUUUCAAACAAUUGAUGCUCCAUCUUCGUUUUCUGUAUGUCUCGGUUAUGAAUUCUUUUUUCUUGAAUCUUUAUGGAUAAAAUGCUUGUUGGGGUGGAUAUUUUAUUCCCGCCAAAUAUGCUUGGUAGGUCACAAACCAGGAUAUAUAUAAUCUCCUAAGGCUGUCCAAACAGUAAAUGAUUUAAUGGAGUGUGUUUUGAUGCAUUUUGCAGUUUCUUUGCCAGGGCUUCAAUCUUUUAACUUCAAACUUGUCUUAUUGCAUGUUACUAUUUGUAACAGCACAUUAUAUGCGAAAGACAAUUGCUAUAUGAUUCUCUAAUCUUGCAAAAGGUUUACGGUUGAAAACAUCCAUCAUGCUUAUUGUCCGUCAUGUUUUCCUUGAAAUCUGAAAUUUUUUGUACCAUGUGUCUCUUUUAUGCAGGACAUUUCAGCGAGCUUAUGUUUCCGUGGCCAACGAAUAUUCUUACACAACGCAAGUGGCUGGUUUGGUGAUGUUCCCCUGGAAGCUUCUGGAGAUUUUGGUAUUCAUCCUGAGGAAGGAGAGUUUCAUCUUAUGUGUCAGGUAUGCUUUUGGAGAUGCUUCUUCGAGUGUGUGGUACUAGAAUUCCUAACUUUAGUUCAGUUAUGUAGAAGUAGAUAAAUUUGUUUUAAUAAGAAGCUACUGAAGGCCAUCAGGAUAUGCAUUUGUCAGUUGAGUUGAUGAUCCUCCUUACCAGUUCUAGAUUUAUUUUAUGUAGCUUACACUAAGAGUUCUGAACACCUUCGAUUCUUUCUAGAAUCAUGGCUCUGAUAAGAAUGCAUUUCUUUUGAGCUUGAACUGGCAACUUGAAAUGUCUUAUUUGAUUUCCCUUCUAUUUUAUUUAAUUAUGCCGCACCCAAUUAGUAAUCUUUGUAUUUUGCAGGUUUCUUGUGUGGAAGUAAAUGCCUUGAUGAGAACUUUCAAGAUGAAACCUCUCUUGUUUCCGGUAUGUGUAUGUUGUGUAUGCAUGUUGCAUCUGUCUUUUCCUUUUCCCUAUUUGAUAACACAGAAAUAAUAGGCUGCAAUUUAGAUGCUAGCUUCUCCCUGGUCCCAUCAUGUGUGGACGGUAGAACCCAUGACUUCUCCUUUUAAAAGGGAAGGUCUAAACUUGGACGCAAUUGCCACACUUUGACAUGGAUAUGAAACUAGCAUUUUCCUGACAGGAGCACAUUGUUGUUUAUAUGCGUCUUUGUGAAGUUUUAACACAUUAUCGAUGUAAGAGUGUCUUCCUGCAUGUGACAAUCAUGGAGGCAAACAUGUAUUAAUUAGCAUGACAGCCUUAAUAGAACUUCUUCUUAAUCAUAGUUAAUUGUAAUAAAACUCUUUAAAAGUCUGUACGAGUCUCAUACAUUGGCCAACACAUGUAUGGCAUCCUCAACUGCCUGAACUCUGAAGCACUAAGGCUACAAAUGUGGUACAAAUCAUAUCAUAUGUGUUUUAAAAUCAUUGACUGCUAAUAUUUAAUAUUUGAGGUUUCUUAUAUUCUGUCUUUUCUCGGUUUUUCUUUUCUUUUCAUUUUUUAAAGUUUCAUUCACGUCUCUAAAGAAUUGUUUCAAAUGCUUUCAUUAGCUAUUUUUACAUUGCCUACUAUGAUUUCUCCUAAUUCCUCAUUAUAGCGUUGGAUGCAUUAGUUUCGCUUACUUAGUUCCCACAAGAAAUAAUGCAGUGAUAAUAGGUGAGGUGAUAUAUGUCAUAUUGACCAUCUCUCUUUGAAUUACUCCCAUGUAGCUGGCUGGUUCAGUGACUGCUGUGUUUAACUGUCAAGGUCCAUUGGAUGCUCCUUUAUUUGUGGGAAGUGGAAUGGUAUCUAGAAGGAUUUCUCAAUCAGUUUCUGAUUUUCCUCCGUCUUCGGCAUCAGAAGCAGUUUUGAGAAGUAAGGAAGCUGGUGCAGUAGCAGCAUUUGAUCGUGUACCAUUUUCAUGCGUGUCGGCCAAUUUCACUUUUAACACUGAUAGCUGUGUAAGUUUGUGAGGAGAAACUAAAAUGCUUAUGUCCAAAAUUGUGUGGUAAUUCUUAUCUCAUGCCAUUGUAUCUAUAUUAUUGUAAUUAUUUUUAAUUUUCUAUAGGUUGCUGACUUGUAUGGAAUAAGAGCUAGCCUUGUAGAUGGAGGUGAAAUUCGAGGAGCAGGGAAUGCAUGGAUUUGCCCAGAGGUAUGAUUGAUGAUGAGAUGGACUUUUGUUUUGUGUUGAAAUUUUGGCCAAGCUUAUGUAGAUUCAUCUUAGUGAGUUUUUAUACUAGCGGGCCCUGUCUGUCUGUCUGUCUGUCUCUUUCCAUGGGGAUUAUUCGACCUAUAAUGCUAUGUUUUAGCUUUCAUAUUGAGUUGAAGCGUUUGGAAUGACGAUGCACUCUAACAUUUCUAUUUGGAAAGUUAAUCCUGUGAUGUUCUGCACAGGGUGAGGUUGAUGAUACAUCAAUGGAUGUGAAUUUCUCCGGAAGUUUGUGCUUUGAUAAAAUUCUGCAUCGAUAUGUACCUGGGUAUCUUCAACUAAUGCCACUCAAAUUAGGGGAUUUAAAUGGGGAGACAAAACUUUCUGGAUCACUAUUGAGGCCGUAAGAUUCCUGGGUCUACCCUCCUAACUGUUGAUCAAGAAUGAUUGAUGUUGCUUUUUGCUUCAUCUGCUUUUUGUUUUAGUAUUUUUUUAAUAAAAAUUUACAUGAUGCUGAUGAUAGUCUGCAUUUGUUGUCGGUCAUUCUUUAGGUUCACUCACUUGUGUUUCAAUUAUUUAUUUAUUUUUUUAAUGCAGGAGGUUUGACAUUAAAUGGACAGCUCCAAAAGCUGAAGGGUCCUUCAGUGAUGCUCGAGGAGAUAUCAUAAUCUCGCAUGAUUCCAUUACUGUUAAUUCCUCAUCUGCUGCUUUCGACUUGUCCUCAAAAGUUCAAACAUCUUACACUGACGAAGACUGGCUACGGAGAAGAGAUGCUGAUGCAAAUAGUGCCAUGCCAUUCGUUGUUGAGGGAAUUGACUUGGAUUUGCGUAUGCGUAGUUUUGAGUUUUUCAACUUGGUAUCUCCUUAUCCGUUUGAUUCUCCGAAACCUAUGCAUUUGAAAGCAACAGGCAAGAUCAAGUUUCAGGGAAAGGUUUUAAAGCCUUAUAUUGAUCAUGGACAAGAUUUUGGUUUUGAGAGGAAUAAGCAACCUGUGGAAAUGACAGAUAAAGGAAAGACAGACAGUCUUGUUGGAGAGGUUUCCAUUUCAGGUCUUAAAUUGAAUCAGUUGAUGUUGGCACCUCAGUUGGCUGGAUCAUUGAGCAUGUCGCGUGAGUGUAUCAAGGUAAUGCAAAGAAUCUUUAUGCUGAUGUUCUAGUCAAUUGUUGGCACCUCAGUUCACCUCUCAUUUUUCUUGUAAUGGAGCUCAAUAUAUUAAGCUGAUCUUCUAGUCAAUUGUCGCCACUCUAACCUUUGAAUUAAUAUGUUGACUCAUUUAUUCCUGAUGUUUUGCAUUGUAGAGUAUAACUGGUAAUAAGCUUUAAAAUUAUAUUCUAUCUUAUCAUGGAAGCUCUUUGUGACGUAAUAGCUUUUAGCAGGCUAAAGCUACUUGUAUAUGAGUUUUUUUUUAUUUAAAAAAAGUAGCUUGUCAAAGAUUUAGAGAGCGAACUUCUCAAGUUUGAAAGUUAUAGAUUGCUUUGGCAUGCCCAUGUGCCUAAGUUGAGUUUUAGACAUAUGUUUCUGCUGCAUAUUUUUGCAUGCCUAUGCUCUGGGAAUGGAAAUCAUGAUAAAUAAUUCAUAGGGAUCUUUUAAUUUUAAUUUUUUUUAUUUUAUGAAUGCUGUGGUUAGUGAGAUGUCAUCAGAUAGAGCUAAAGGAAGAGUUGGACGUUGGCGUUGACUGUUGAUUGAUCCCCUAUUAUUGCUUGUUCCUGCUUCUUACAGUUCAUUCUUAAAUAUGAGAUGUUUCUGGUGGUGCAGUUGGAUGCCACAGGUAGGCCAGAUGAAAGUCUUGUAAUGGAGUUUGUUGGACCCUUGAAGCCUAAUAAUGAAGAUAAUUCCCAAAGUGGACAGUUGCUGUCUUUUUUCCUUCAAAAGGGGCAACUAAAAGCAAACAUUUGCUUCCAGCCAUUUCAUUCUGCUAGCUUGGAGGUACCUGUAUUUAAGCAAAAUAUUCUUUGUUUUCCUAUUUUGGUCCUUGUUAGUUGAGCUUAUUAGUAAUAACAAAUUGAGUAAAUUGAGUACCAACUUUUAUUUUGUCUUUGUGUUGGUCAUAGAUACGCCAGCUACCACUGGAUGAAUUGGAGUUGGCCUCACUGCGUGGAACAAUACAGAAGGUAACCCAGCAGGCAUUCUAGAUUUAAGUGUUUUCUGUACCCCAUUUCUCCUCCUUCCUUAUUCCUCUUCAGUGCACAUGUCGAUCAUUAUAAGAUGGCUGUCAAGAAUGGUUCAGACAAUCACUGGAGCUUUUGAUUUCAUGGAUGUUUAUUCUAAUAAUGUUUUAAAAUAAUAAGAGGACCCUAUUUCUGUUGUUGCAAGGACAAGUUUAUUAAUAAGGAACUUGGGAUGUUAAGGCCAAUUUAACCGUCUAGUUUUUAUUAUCUUUGAUCAUCGCUUCAAGGUACUUCACAGAGGUAAAAGAGAAAGAAGGGGUAAAAAAAACCCCUGAAACGACUUCAACCUAUCCACUGUUUUUCGGGCAUUCAGUGCUAUCUUUUUCCUUAAGACAUUCUGGGUAAUAAUGUCACUGGUUUGCUGUUUUUCUUUUCUAAUCCAAUCUAUAUAUUGGUUCAUUCUAUUUCUAACUAGGUUAUACUUUUAAGUGAAAUCAUAAGGUUGCUUUUUCAUAUUUUAAAGAGAAAUCAUAAUCAAAUUUAAGCUUUGUAAAGAGAUUAUUUUGUGAUAGUUGUUUCUACUCUGUUGCUUUUCAAUUCUAAAAUGUUUAGGUGGUUGUUUUCUUUCAGGCCGAAAUUCAGCUUAAUCUUCAGAAACGAAGAGGUCAUGGACUGCUGUCUGUACUUCGGCCGAAAUUCAGCGGUGUGCUAGGUGAAGCCCUUGAUGUGGCGGCUAGAUGGAGUGGGGAUGUUGUGAGUACCCCUGGGUUUUUGUAUUUUUCAUCUGUCCUUACGGAUUCAUUUCGAGGAAAAUUUUAUUGAGAUGAUUGUCUUCCUUCCACUCACAUAUUUUUUAUUGUAAACUUGAAUUGACUUGUUGCUAUUCUUAAUGGUUAUAAGCUACCCUUCCCAAUUCCAAGAGGUCCAUGCAUGUGAAAAAAAGUAGAAAAUGCAUAUUGAGGUGAAGCAGAAUAUUUGAUUUGAGUUCUCUUUGUUUGUUUAUCUCUGCCUCUGUCUAAUUUCUCUAUGAUUUGUCUUCUUCUUGUCACAUUUGUUGCUGAGUUUAAUGCCAGUCACUUUGGUUUCUGAUUUCAUGCCAUGAUAGUGAUGCAUAUUUUUCGCAAGCUUUCCCUACUUGAUGGUUAUUUGUCUUCCUUUUGCCCCGUUGAGAUGUUCUCAUUUCUCUUGCUUUGGUAAUAACCAAGAAAUUGACAACACUUCCUUUAAGUCUAUUUAACCAUGAUAUAUCAACUAAGUCAAUGUGUUUUCACUCGCCAUGAACAAGCUUUGUUAUUUCAGCGUUUCUGUUAGAUUUACAAUCAGGACAUCGAAUUAUGGCCCCUUAUACUUAAUGAAUGGUGUCAAAGUCUUUUGGAAUGAAUUAGUAUCAAUAUCCAAUAAUAAUUUGUCUUGACUUUUUUGGGGCUCCAUGUGGUGUUACUAAUUCACAACUACAACAUGUCUAGAUCACUGUUGAGAAAACAGUCCUGGAGCAAAGCAACAGCCGAUACGAGCUUCAGGGUGAAUAUGUAUUGCCUGGAACGCGAGAUCGCAACCCUGCUGGAAAGGAAAAGGGUGGCUUGUUGGAAAGGGCAAUGGCUGGGCAUCUGGGUAGUGUCAUAUCUUCUAUGGGGAGGUGGAGAAUGAGACUGGAAGUUCCUAGAGCUGAGGUUGCUGAGAUGCUUCCCCUAGCCAGGCUUGUUUCUCGAAGUACAGAUCCUGCUGUUCAUUCAAGAUCAAAGGUUGUAUCCCGUUUAAAUAAGUUGGAAAUAAGGAUAUAUAGCAAUUAUCAUCUUUUCAGUUGAGCCCAGAACAUUAACUUUGUCAUUUAAAUAGCAUCUAAGUGUGUAAUCAGUAGUACAUUAUACCAAAUGCAGGAGUCAUGGUCCACAUGUUUUCAAAUAACUAAAAGAAAACAGGAAAAAUGAAUUCCUUGUCGCUUAUACAGUUUGAAGGCCCUCUAUAGAAGCAUAGGUUACUUGUGAUGAAUUUUAAUUCUCUGACUGUACUUUUUUUACUCAUAAAAAGUAAUUCCAAAAAAGAAAAAACCUCUGAUUCUACAUAUUUCUGUGAAAUUUGCAUGCAGGAUCUCUUUAUUCAGAGUUUGCAGUCAGUGGGAUUAUAUACUGAAAGUCUUACAGAACUACUCGAGGUACUUUGUGGACGAAACACCAUGUGUUUAUAUCUGAUUUGAAGCUGUAUUACCUGAUGCAUAUCACCUGGUGUACAUGAAAUUGGGAUCUGAUGUCUUUAUAGAAUUUUUUUUUUUUUCCUUCUGUUUGUAGUAAUGAGAUCAGCCGGGGCAGUUAUGUAUAUAUGAUUGUUGUUGAUCCAUUAUUUCAGGUUAUACGGGGACAUUAUACUCCAUUAAAUGAAGUUGUUCUAGAAGAAUUGAAUCUUCCAGGUUUAACUGAGCUUAGAGGUAGCUGGCAUGGCUCUCUUGAUGCAAGUGGUGGUGGCAAUGGGGAUACAAUGGUAUAUAUCUUUCCCAUCCUUGCUUGGGUUCAAAUAUCAAAUAUCUUUUUUCUAGAGAAUUUAGUUAUGAAUACCAAAAUUGCAAGGAGAUGGGUAAUCAUUUUUUGGACAACUGGAUGUUGGGACACAAAUGAUAGUGAGUCCUAUCCUAUGAAGUUCUGCUGUCCUAUCCUAUGAGGUUCUCCUGUGCACUCAUAUUACAAAUUGAUGAUCACUUGAACUUUGCUCCUUGAUAAUCCUCUCAGUUGAAGGAAAAACCAACUUUUAGAUAAUAAGCAUAACCUUUUGUUUUAAUUGUUGCUAGUCCAACUUAAAUGUAGCAGUUAGACCUGGAAUGCAUAGCUACCAUGGUUACUUUUUGAAUCUUGGCAUGUAGGCUUUGUCCUCUAAUAAUUGGUUUUAUCAUUAUAUAUUUUUGUCAGGCAGAAUUUGAUUUUCAUGGGGAGGAUUGGGAGUGGGGAACCUACAAAACUCAGCGUGUUCUGGCAGUUGGUGCAUACAGCAACGAUGAUGGUUUGCGCCUGGAAAAGAUGUUUAUUCAGAAAGAUAAUGCUACAAUUCACGCAGAUGGGACUUUGUUAGGGCCUAAAACGAAUCUUCACUUUGCUGUUCUAAACUUUCCUGUUAGUCUAGUUCCUACUGUUAUUCAGGUGGUCGAAUCUUCUGCUACUGAUGUGGUUCAAUCUUUACGGAAAUUUUUAGCACCAAUUAGGGGUAUAUUGCACAUGGAAGGCGAUCUCAGAGGGAAUCUUGCAAAACCAGAAUGUGAUGUGCAAGUAAGGCUCCUGGAUGGUGCCAUUGGGGGGAUUGAUCUUGGACGAGCUGAAAUUGUUGCUUCCUUAACCUCAACCAGUCGUUUUCUGUUCAAUGCAAAAUUUGAACCAAUCAUCCAAAUUGGCCAUGUUCACAUUCAAGGAAGUGUUCCUGUCACUUUUGUUCAGAAUAACAUGUCAGAGGAAGAAGAUUUAGAAAAAGAUAAAAGUCGUGCAAGUUGGGACCAUGGUUGGGUAAAGGAAAGAGGUAGGGGUUCCGUAGAUGACUCCGGUGAAAAGAAACUUUCAAGAGAGCGAAAUGAAGAAGGGUGGGAUACUCGAUUAGCAGAAAGCCUCAAAGGUUUAAACUGGAACCUUCUCGAUGUAGGUGAAGUCAGAAUAGAUGCUGAUAUUAAAGAUGGGGGCAUGAUGCUGUUAACUGCCUUAUCUUCUUAUGCUAAAUGGCUUCAGGGAAACGCUGAUGUCAUACUUCAGGUGGGUCAAUUGAAUGUUGGUUUUUUGCAUGCCUGUAAUUUCAUAUACUGUGUUUCUUUUUCCCGUCAAAUUGCUCUGUUAUGGUUCAGUUUAAGGCCAUGAUUAAAGUUUGUUGAGGAUUGUAAUAUCAAUAGGUCAGAGGCACAGUUGAACAACCAGUGCUGGAUGGAUAUGCAUCAUUCCACAGGGCAUCCAUAUCAUCACCAGUUCUCUGGAAACCACUCACAAACUUCGGUGGCACAGUUCAUGUGAAAUCGAAUAGGUUAUGCAUCACUUCGUUGGAGAGUAGAGUAAGCAGAAGGGGGAAACUGUUUGUAAAAGGAAACCUGCCCCUUAGAACAAGUGAAGCAUCCCUUGGAGAUAAAAUUGACUUGAAAUGUGAAGUUCUGGAAGUACGUGCAAAGAAUAUUCUGAGGUACUUGUUUUUGUUUCUUAUGAUUGAAAGGCUAAGUUCAUUCGCAUCGCUAAUAGGUUGAUUUUUGGAUUCUUAUGCUUUUCAGAAUCCUUAAAAUCCCAAUUUUUAUUUUGCUGCUUUGAUGUUUCCAUUGGUUCUGGUGUUGUGGUACAAAUCCAAAAUAGGAAGAGAGAACAAAUAAGAUAAACUUACUCCAGAAAUGGAGUCCUUUCCCUUCCUUUGAGAGUUAAUCCAUGUUUUAAUAGCAGUCUUAGCUGCAUAUUCCUUUUGUUUGCAGUCCGAAAAAAACUCAUGUGUUAACUAAAAUUGCAGCGCCCAGGUUGACACUCAGAUGCAGAUAACUGGUUCUAUAUUGCAACCCAACAUCUCUGGAAGUAUUAAAUUGAGCCAUGGUGAAGCAUAUCUACCACACGAUAAGGGUAGUGGGGCUGCUACUAAUAGAUUGGCAUCAAAUGAGUCCAGGCUCCCUGGUACUGGUGUCGAUCGAGUAGUUGCCUCGAGGUAUGUUUCGCGGUUUUUCAGUUCACAACCUGCUGCUUCAAGGACAAAGUUCCCUCAACCUUCAGGUAAGACAUCACUGCCUCUUUUGUUUCAUUGUGUGACAUUAUGAUACUAUAAAUUCAGACUAGAAUAUGAUUGGUAAAGUUGAUAUCUGCAAAUUCUGCUUUUUAACCUUCAACCUUCUGGAUUGGCAGUUCAACCAACUGAAAAGGAGAUGGAGCAAGUGAACAUUAAACCGAAUGUAGACAUUCAGCUUAGUGAUUUGAAGCUCGCUCUAGGACCAGAGUUGAGGGUAGUUUAUCCUUUAAUCCUCAAUUUCGCAGUUAGUGGAGAGCUUGAAUUAAAUGGCCCAGCUCAUCCCAAAUCGAUACAACCUAGAGGUGUCUUAACUUUUGAGAAUGGUGAUGUAAAUCUUGUUGCAACUCAGGUGGGGUGUUCAAGCUAAUCCAUAUACUGCUCGUCUUUGUGGUUACUCUGCUUUUGGCCUUCUCUUAAUCUCAUUAACUUUGCAAUUGCAGGUGAGACUCAAGCAAGAGCAUCUGAAUAUUGCAAAAUUUGAGCCUGAACAUGGUCUAGAUCCGAUGCUAGAUUUAGUUUUGGUAGGUUCUGAGUGGCAAUUCAGGAUUCAAAGUCGAGCCAGAAACUGGCAGGACAAACUGGUUGUAACUUCUACUGGCUCUGUGGAACAGGAUGCCAUCUCACCUACUGAGGUAUAUCGUUUUAUAUUGGCGGGAGUAUUCAGUUCCUUGUGUCGUAUGAAAUGAUCAAUCCAAUAGGUCACUCCUGCAGGUUUUCUUGUCUUUGUCACAUAGUGGACUCUAUAUACUCCGCAUUAAGUCACUCUGUGAAAUCUACUUUCACAUUUGUUUUAUUUGCCCUGGAUUUCUGAUUUAGGAUUUGCAAAACUUUGUUCAAGUUUUCAUGCCCUAGACUUACUGGCACUUUGAUCUGAUCUAUUUUCCCCAUAUUCAUAGGCUGCCAGAGUUUUCGAAAGUCAAUUGGCAGAGUCCAUCUUGGAAAACGAUGGGCAGCUUGCGUUCCAAAAGCUUGCAACUACAACACUUGAAAAACUGAUGCCAAGAAUAGAAGGGAAGGGAGAGUUUGGCCAGGCAAGGUGGAGGCUAGUGUAUGCACCACAGAUCCCUAGUUUGCUUUCUGUUGAUCCAACGGUGGAUCCUCUCAAAUCCCUGGCCAGUAAUAUUUCAUUUGGUACAGAAGUUGAAGUCCAACUUGGGAAACGCCUUCAGGUUAUCUUAAUGAAACUCUUCAACGUGCUGUCAAUUCUUUUGCCUCUCAAAAUUUGAUAUUUCCAUUUAUUAUAGGGGAAUUAAUUGAUUGAUACUGUUUUACUUCUUUUCCUUCAAGUUUUGUUUAUGAUCAUUUAAGAGUAUUUUUUUUUCCUCAGGCCACAAUUGUUAGGCAAAUGAAGGACUCGGAGAUGGCAAUGCAAUGGACCUUAAUCUACCAGCUUACGAGCCGCCUGCGGGUUCUCCUACAGUCUGCUCCGUCAAAACGCCUCCUUUUCGAAUAUUCUGCUACGUCUCAGGAUUAGUCUGCUAGCCAAUUUCUUUUAGCUCUAACUUUUCUGUGGAUCAGAUCAAGCCUUCAAUUGGAGCUUUGAAAUCUCAGUCAGUUAUACGUUCUAUUUCUUUCUUCUUCCUUUUUUUCCUUUACUUUUUAAGUUUCUGAUUAUGUAUAAUUAUUCUUUGCUCAAAAUUGAAUGAGCUCCCUUGUAAGUUCAAUGCGUUCACUUUGUAAAUAGUUCAAUAUUAUCAAUGAAAGAAAAUUACCGGUUCUAAGUUUCCAACGCUUGGUGAUUGCAAUUAAACUCUUAUUCGAGAUUUGUUAGUAUAGCUCGUUCAUUCUCAAUAGAAAAGGUCCUCCAACCAAAAAAAUAGGUGGCUGGAUUUUUCAAUCAUAUUAAUUGCGUUUUAUUAUUAUUUAUUUUGCCUUUCGAUCAGAAGUGUUCUGUUCAAAAAAUUCACUCAAUAAAAUUCCCAAAUUAUUCAAAGUGUUCUGAUAAAAAAAUUCACUCGUAAAUUUUAGGGUUAUUCACAGCAAUGGUCCCUUAACUAUACCCGUAGUUACAAUUUGGUCACCCAAUUCAAUUAUUAGUUGCAGAGGUUACUUAAGUAGGUGUUUUGUUGCACCAUUAAUCUUUCCGUCAACUCUGUUAAAUUUUCUGUCAAAAGUGAGAAUAAAUUCGAAAAUUCAUCCACAAUCCUCCCCUUCCUCCACAACCCUCCAUUGCCGCAACCCAAUCCUUGUGAACACCAAAAAAUUUCCCCUAGAACCCUUCCUGGCUAUCUUCUUGAAUUCGUCUCUCAAAUGCUCUAGAAACUGAAGAACACCAGGGUUUCCCAAACUCUCAUCAACAAUUGUGAAAUAAAUAUACCCAUCUUCAAUUAGGAACCCAUAAGUCCUUUUACCCACGGUCUCAAAAUACCACCUAAGAAAAGGAGUCGUCUUUUCCAAGCACAAAGUAGCCAAGUUCUCAAUUUCACCAUCUCCACCACUGUAUACAUAAAUGAUCCAAUUACCCCUUGAUACACAACAAUAGUAAACGGUAUUUUGAAUCGAACCCAUAUUAUACUCAAUUGUAGUCUACAACCAAUUCUACUGGUGAACCUCAGUGCCAAGCAUCAUUAGUACCAAACAAAAUGUAAUUAUGUAAACAACAACUUAGAUACAAAAUCAAAAGCGUCCAAGUAAUACGAGAGCAGUUCACUGAAGUUGUGAGGAUGCUUAAGAAUGCAGAGACUGAUAUCGCAAUCGUCUUCUUCUUUAGUCCAAGCUCCUUUGUUGGUGUGAGCCUUUCACAACAAGGAGAUCUUCCCACUUCUUGUUGCUGUGCGGCUUCGAAUUUUUUGGUGUUUGCAAGGAUUGAGUUGGGCAAUAGAGGGUUGUGGAGGAAUGGGAGGGUUGUGGAUAAAUUUCUGAAUUUACCCUCACUUUUGACAGAAAAUUUAACAGAGUUUGACGGAAUGACUAAUGGUGCAACAAAACACCUACUUGAGUGACCUUUGCAAGUAAUAAUUGAAUUGAGUGACCAAACUAUAACUACGCGUAUACUUGGGACCAUUGCUGCGAAUAACCCUAAAUUUUAUUCUUACUACAGAAAAUUAGAUUUACGAGUCCACAAUGAAUCAUAAUUGAAAUUAUUAUUUUUUUCUGAAAAGGUUAGACUAAAAUUAGUCAGGGGCUGCGCGAACGCAGGCCCCCGCUAGCACAAAUUAUGACAUUGGCUCUCCUACGUUGGGGAGACCAUAGACUGGCACCCCUCCUGAGUGCAAUGGAGGUCACCAACCUAGGCCAUGGGCCCUCUUGAUCGCCCAUUGACCCUGUCCAGGUAAGUAUGUUUUAACGUUCUCCUUGAUCCUCUUUUAUAUCAACUCUUCCCACUCACUCUUUUCUCCCAGUCGAUGUGGGAUUAGUUUAAAAUGCCAAAAGGAAACACAAUUAACCAAAGAAUUUGCAUACAAAUUUGUCAUCUACCCUUUACUCAUCAUCAACCCAAAGAGAAACGUAAUGGAACGUAGAGCCAAAAUUUCAAUGUUGAUGGAAUAAAUGAGUGAAAAAUUAGUGGGACGACAAAAUCGAGUACACUCUCACCAAAAUCUCCAUGGAUCCUUGUAUGGAGGAACAUAGUUUUCUGUGGGAGGGAGGAGGUGAAAAGAAGCAAUGGUUUUUUGCAAGAUAGGCCCCACCUGCAUCACAUAAAAUGCAUAUCAAUAAUUAUAUGUAAGCAGAAGAUAUAAAUAACAACAAAACUUCAUUUCCUUCAUCAGAGAGAGAGAGAGAGAGUUACUAUGUUCCACUGCUUGUUGAGAGUUGAAGCAUUUAUAGAGUACAAAUAACCUACAAUUGAGUUUUUGUAAGAUUCAAUGACAGGUUUUAUAUUGCAAUAUUAACCCAAUAAAAACAUAGCCGUUACUUUUUUAAUCAAAUGGCAUCUUCUCCACCACAAGUAUGCGUAAUGCAGAUAAUGAUGAGAAAAAAGAAUGAGAUGAAAAAUCUUAUGUUUAGCACUGGAAUGGUUGAACAAAGAAACUAUUUUCCUACCAUCUCUUUCGGUUGUUGAAGCUACAUAGUGCCUAUAAUUGUUAGAUUCUUCAGCCUGCACAAUUUUCAACUGUUGUAAGAAUCCUGAAGAAACCAGGACAGUGAGCGAAUUUUUAUUCAACUGAAAACUGCUCUUAGAAAGAACACUUACAGUUUUCGUGGGUGCUUUGCGAACAAGGUACUCAUAAUACCAGUAUGGCUCACCAGCAAUCUGAGGAAUAAAAAUGAUCAAGCUUCAUACGUCGCCAAGUAGAUUUUACAACGACAGUUUCAGCUAUGUAAACCCAAAAAGGUGUGGGAAGCUUACUUCACCGGAAUGUGCAUCAAGAACUGAACUCUCCGCCAUGCGCUGACUUGAGGUGACCCGCUGCAGAGAAUUGUAGCAUGUCAGAUCAAACAAGCAUUAACUUGACAACAUCAAGCAGUCAAGGCCAUAGAAUAUUCCCCCAAAAAUUGGUUGGGUAACUCUACAACGGACUGCACCAUCCCAUCCAACCACAAUCCUCUUUACAGCUAUUCUACCCAAGCAAAUUGAAGGCAAAUUGGUUUUUCGAUUCAUCGUUGUUUUACUGGACAAUUUCUUUCCUCCCUUGGGAUGCUUCCUAAGAAUGUAUUAUCAUGUCACAGUUACAUCAAAAUUAGUACACUUUGAUUUUUCAAGAUCCUCCGGUUGGGGAUAAUCUAUCAUGCCUAAGGUUUCACUUUUUAAUAUUUCUUUCAGUCCUAGUUAAACUUCAAAAAAAAUUCACACGUGGACAAUCAAUCGUAACAAAUUUUUUCUAUUCAGCCAGAGCCAGCCUUAAAAUCAAAAGCUAUUAGAAAAGAGCCAGUGGAAUAUUACCAAUGCAGACUUGUCAGCCAAAACAGAAUCAGCAACAUCUUUUGCAGUCCAUGUACUCUUGUCUAGUGAUUUUAUAAUCUUUGAAUUCGGGGGACCUAUCUGAAUCAAAGGAAAUUAAAUUAUAAACCUUUGAAAGAUAACUAAGGGGAUUUGCACUUAACAAGUAGUGAUCUUAUCAGGAGUUACCGAAAUAGAAAUGAUGAGAUUAUCAACAAUGUCAACACGCUCAGAAACAAUGCGAAGCCGUGCAUCAGCUGAAUAAUAUAUAAAACAGUUUCUAGUCAGGUUCUGUUGAAAGACUUUCAUCAUUCUAUUUUUGAAGCUGAACUUACGAGAUAAUGGUGCAGCUGAUGAAUAGCGUUCUGGCUUUCUUGACUCCACCCUGAAAUACAUGAAAAUAGUCAGGUUCCUACAAUUUAUAUGCCACGAUAAUUGCAAAUAAUUCAACAGUUGGUUUUUGUGCUAAAAAGGAAAAAGAAAUAUACAGAAAACUAUUAUCAGCGUCUCAUUUAAAGAAAACAAUGCAUGAUUCAAAAGGUUAUGAACAUUAACUCUGAUAACAUUAUGGGCGAAAAAAAGCAUAAGUUUCCGUUCAGAUUCAAAUUUGUUCCUCUGAACCGAAAAGUAACAACAACAACGAUACAUACACGUAUCGAAAAUGGGGCAAAUUGCAUACCAUUUGAAAAUGACCUUCUUAGAUGGCAACUCCACUGGGUAUAGAUAAGAACAGGAAUUUAUUUCAUCAACAAACGUAGCCAUUUUCAAGUCUUCCUCUGCAAGGGACCCUGCAACAACAGUGGCCUAUUGAUAAUUGCUAAUUACAAAGAUACAAAAAAGAAUUUUAAAUUAUUAGAGAUUAUAUUCAUAAACAUGUAUACUAACAACCAUAACAUAUUUCCAAAAAAGAAUAAAUAAAAUUUUCAUUUUCCAUGUUCUUCCCAGUUUCUUCAGAGACUGUAAAAAUCAACUGACCAAAUUACCAAAGUGUGAAUUGAGAAAGCUCACCUGAAGAUGGGAACACUACAAGCACUGGAGCAGAAAGGCCAAAGAGCAACAACUCCCUUCUGCAAAACCCACUUUGCAAAGUGGGUUUUGAGAUGGCACUAGAACAUGGCUGCCAUUUGUUCUGCUGUAUCACAGUUCUAGCCUGCUCUCUAACACCAACCCAAAAACAGUACCAAUAAUUUAAAGAGAUAAAUAAAAAUACACAGAAAUAUUCAUUCACACAUUCAUGUCCAUGAUAAGAUUAAGAGAGAGAAAGUACCUGAAAAACAUAUUUGUAGGAACAAGCUGGUUGGAUGUGAAGAGGGAGAGAGGAGAGAGAACAACCAUUUUUGCUCUCUUCUUUCUUUUGCUCUGCUUUUCUCUCUGUUCUUGCUUGGCUCAUCCACUCAAUGGAGGACCCAACUCCCAACAAAAAUAUUAAAACCCAGCUGUUUAACACGUGUCCUUGUAAUAAGAGGGUAUAUGGUCUGAUUAACCACUGACCAAUCAUUUUAUGCCACGUGGUAUGCUUAGUCAUAAAACUUAAAUAGAAUACAACUAACCCUGUCUCCAAACAGGGCCCCAAACUGUUAUAGUAAACCCAGUAAAACGUCCGUGUCAUGCAAAGUGAAGAGAAGAAACUUUUUAUUAUUAGCUUUCCGCUACACUAAACAUUUCUCACAGAGCGAAAAAUAGAAGAAUUUCCCCGAAAAUCAUUUGCUCUUUUUUCUUCUGCGUCCUCUGCGAUCUCGGGAACUAGGGUUUCGGCGAUUUCGAGUUCUUCGUUUUGCUUCUUUGGAUUUCAAGAUCGCCUCCUCGCUCUCGGUGAGCUCUCAUUGACCUUCGUUGGUUCAUGCUGUUAACUUUUUUUUUCUUUGAUCUUGAUCGUAAUUAGGUUUCAUAUUACGAUGAUCCGAGUUUUGGAAUUUCUUUUUUGCGAUGAGAUUCGAGUUGAUUAUCUGAGGUUUGAGAUUUUGUUGAUCCGUACGUGUAUUUUGUUCUUGUUUACUUUGUGGAAAACGGGAUUUUAUACUUGAUUGAUUACUUGAAGUCUAAUGAGAAAAGCAAUAAUCAAAUAUGGAUUUUGUUAAAGUGAAUCUUGAUCUAGAGUUUGUUUACUUAUAUCAUUUUUUUCUUUUCGUGAGGAAAUUGGAUAGUGAUCUGAUGUAGUGUAUCUUCUUGUGUGGAUAUUGGAUAGUGAUCUGAUGUAGUGUAUCUUCUUAUGUGGAUAUGAGAUAUGAAAUUGAGUUCUUGACAAGUUGAGGCACUAACUUUGACUGGUUUGGUUUCUGAAGGAUUAGUGGAUUGAAUAAUUUGUUUGGUUUAGUUGUUUGUGAAGGAUUUGUAAUCUUAUGUGAUUAAAUUGCACACGAGUUUGAAUGGUGUUUUCAAAAUCAGUCCUCUUUUCAUCUAAUCAAAGGUCAUAGAUAUGAUAUGUUUUGGGUUUGUCAGUUACACUCUCACCAUCAACUGAAAUUUUUUGGUACAACAAUUAGCUUAUGCUUUGAGUAAAUUCAAAGUAAAGUAAGACCCAGGAUUUUAUCUCUUUAUUAGUGGAAUCCCAGCUUAUUUUGACAUGAAAGCUUUAUAUUUUUGUUUCAUCCAUGAUUACAUUAUUAAUAUUGUCUGAUAAUAUCCGGUUUUGCAUUUCUUUCAAAGUAGCAGAUUUUUAUGAAUUGAGACCAUGAAGCCAGGAUUGUCUUCUUUGAAUCCCUAUGCAGCAGCAUACAUUCCACUCUCCAAAAGGGAGACGGAUGAUAGAAUGUAUGUGACGACGAAAGAUUCUAGCCGCAGCAAUGAGGCAGUCUGGUUUGGGACCCCACAGAAUAACUCCCAGAAUCAACCGCAUAGCAAAUCUUAUCUUGAAUCUGAUGCCCCUGGUACUGCAAGACUCCCCAGUCCAAAGUCAUUUGCUGUAAAGAGCUACCCUGCCCACGGUUCUUAUGGUUCAUCUUCACAGAAUGUGAAUGAAGUGACAGCACAUGAAGAUUUUGAUAUGGCUUUGGAUUAUCUUGAGAUGACAUUUCCUGGUAUAUCUGAUCAGUCCCUUACUGAUGUUUAUUUGGCAAAUAAGGGUGACCUGGAUGCCACCAUUGACAUGCUGAACCAACUUGAGGUGAGACUUCCAUUUUUUAUUUUUUUUUGGGUGUAGUUAAAUAUUCUUCAUUCGGUAAAGUCAUACAUUAUCCUCUACCAUCUGUCCAUCUACAAUUAUGUUGCUAUGAAUUACAUUAUAAAUACUUAAAUAAUGCUGCUUGCAAUUCUGAAACAGUUACAGGUCAAAAUUGGAAUGUCUUUAUCCAAUUUGAAGCAUAAACUGUGUAUGUGCUGUGUUCAUGUCACCGACUAAUUAAAACAAAAAAGAAUAAUCAAGCUCCUCGUUUUCUUUGAAAAUUUUCUCUAUUGCAAGUUCAUUUGACUUUGUAUGCUUUGCCAUGUUGGUAGGUGGUGCAAUUACUGUGUGAUUUAAUUGACUCAUAGUGACAGUAAUCUGUUUUGCCAUGUUGAUUGUUUAUGACAUUUCUUAUUUAUAUGAGAAAUCUUGCUCCCUUGAUAUAAUUGUAUAUUGGACAGCUAGUGAAACUCUAUAUUGGACAAGCAAGAAUGGUUUUCGAUUGGCUAGAAUGUAUUUAACUUUUUGUUCGGUAGGCGAGUUUUAUUAUGAACUUUAUAAAGUUGAGAAUAUUCUGGAUAUCCAUCUCCGGCUGUUUGUUUCCUAACAUCAAACUAUAGAAAUUUUGUGUCUAUGUUUAUCAACAUCAGCUCAGAGAUAAACUCUAUCAUUUAGCAUACAUGUUUGGAUUAUUUGCCUUUACUAUAAUUCUUUAAGAACAAUUCUAACUUUGGUACUCAUCCUGAAAAUUGGUUUGUCUCUUACAGUUCUACACAGUUGAGUCUUCUGAAAGUCUUCCAGACACUUUGGACAUUGGAGAUGUUUCUGAAUCUGGGUUGCCAGGCAAUAGUGCAUGGAAACUGAAGAAUGUAGCAGGUGAAGCCAGCGGUUCACCCAAAUCGUAGCUCCCAUUGUCAUCUCCUGUUCGUUUUUUGUGGAAAACAAGAAAAAUGUCAGUUGUUUUACCUUGACAUGUUUGGUUUAUGGGCAACAAGUAUAUAAAUAGAGGAUCUUAUCUUGGGGUCAUGGACAUUAUGCACACAGUUGUUUGAUAAUGGUUGUAUAGCUUCUUAGAUGCUUGUUCUUAAUCUCUCAUUAACAUUUUUCUCGACACCUUCGGGUUUUAUGGGCCAAAAGCUCACAGUGCAAACGUCAUGCCGCUUUACGGUUUUCUGCAAUGAAAAUGAUGUGCUUCUGAAUGUCGUAUUGUACCCAUACUUUACCCUUUUAUUUUCUUAAAGGGAAAGAUUGAGGCUAGGCCUAAAGGCCUCUGGUGAAGUAAGACCUUAUUUAAUUCUUUCUCAUGGGUUACGACCCAAAAGUAAAAUUAUAUAAAAACCAGGCCGGGAUGGCCCAGAUUCAUUUAUGCCCACGAAGGCCCUACACUGUCAAGCAUUUGCUUAAACCCCUCUUUAAGCUACAAGCCUCCCAUUUUAUGACCAGCUCAUGUUAGGAUUUCUUUUCGUUCUUCAUCUCCGGCUUACUUACGGUCCUACUUACCGGGAACCAUGCUCUGUUUGGCUGGAGAUUGGGUUGUCGUCUGUGAUGUAUCUUUGUACAGUUCGUACAGUCAGUUGUUUCUCACCACAGAAUGAUUUGGUGGAUUUACUUUUAUUGUGCUUGGGGAUUAAGGAGAUUAGGAGAUACUGUGAUAUUCUUUGGAAUAUCCUGGUGGAAGUUGAGCGGUAAUGCCCUCCACUCUUGAGGUAUUUACUGUCCCACGAAGUUUGAGAUUGGAAUAUCCUGGUGGAAGUUGAGCGGUAAUGCCCUCCACUCUUGAGGUAUGUAAUGCCCUCCACUCUUGAGGUAUUUACUGUCCCACGAAGUUUGAGAGUUUGUUCUCCGUCUUAAUCUCUUUUAAACACUUGUUGCGACAGGAAAAGGAUCCUCAUCAUCUGUAACUCCUUGUUAGCUGGGUUUAAAGUUGUAUAUUUGUUUUCUAACUAUCUUGUAAUAUUUGAGCUUAAUUGGUGUUGUUGUUACAAUCUAUAUUGCAAGAACCUCCUUCCAGGGUUGUGUUAUAUUUUGUAUUGUUGUAUUCUGAGUUUGUGCCAUGUUUCUUCAAUUGAAUUGAUACAGUUUCGCAAAAACAAAAAAAAACUCUUAGGUCCAUCCGGUAACGUUUUCGGAGCAUGGCACCCUCAUUUCUCUUCAACUAGUUUAGCCACAAGUCAAGUUUUAUCUAAAUAAAAACACAUUGAGCAGUUUUGAACUAGACUACAAAUGUAUUGGUAAUAGACACCAAUGUUAUUUAUUAUCUUGAAAUAACAUGUGAUAUAACAAAAUAUAACGAUAUAUAACAUUGACAAUAUCGAUGAUAUAAAAUUUGUCAUUUAAGAAAUGACGGACGUCAUGCACACCGAGUUGGAGGCUUGGGAAUUGGAGAAGUAUCCAAACGUAGCCUCACUCUUCUUGAGCCGUCAUUGUUAUGUGAUAAUGUGAGGCACUCGGGGUUCAGCUAAUUCAAUUAAAUUACAGACAGUUAGUUUGUGCGGUUAAUUUGUAGAGGUGCCAGAAAUAUGUCCGUGAGCUUCGGUAGUUAAAAAAGAUACAAUAUCCAUCAAACGCGGUCUUAACUCUUAACAAAACAUACACUAAAACAAACAAGAUUGCAUCGUCAAGUCAUCAUCAUAUAUUAAAUACAAGAUCAACAAUUCUGAAGAAGACUAAUCUAAUCAUUUCUGAAAGAACCCAUUUCACCAUUUGCUUCUUUCUUUCUGAGCCUCAGACAAUCUUUGACCAUCCUGAAUUGUGUGAUUUUGGCCUUAGAGAGAGAGCGAGAGAGAGAAAAAGAGGUGGAUGCUGAUCUGGGUUUUUGUCAAAGGUUACAGCUUUGAAGAAUUGCAUCUGAUCUGAUAGUGAUUGAAGAUCAACAAUCUCUUUUUUUUUUCUGGAGGGUAUAGAAGAUGGGGGUGGAUUAUUAUAACGUAUUGAAGGUAAACAGAAAUGCUACAGAGGAUGAUCUAAAGAAGGCUUAUAGGAGGCUGGCCAUGAAAUGGCACCCUGAUAAGAAUCCUAAUAACAAGAAAGAAGCAGAAGCCAAAUUCAAGCAGAUCUCCGAGGCAUAUGAGGCAUGUUCUCUUUCUUUCUGCUAUUUUUGUUACACGUUCAUUCUUCUAUAUGCAUAUUUAGAUAGGUAAACAAAUUUUUAAAGAAAAAAUAAACAGAAGAAAAAGGUUUAAGCUUGUUGAUUUUGUCAAUUUUCAUAGUUCAAGAUUCAUAUGCUGGAUGAUUGCAAUGCAAAUGUAGGAUAAGAAAGAACAAAACUUUAAUGUUUCUGAAAGUUGGUUUUUAUUCUUUGGAGAAUUGGGUAGUCAGCCAAGAAUGAUUACAAUGGGACUUCAAAUAAUGGGAAACUCUUAAGAAGAUCAAGUAAUUAAUUGUGUCAGGCUCAAUUCAGGUGGACUUUUAUUUUCUGUUCCGUCUCCAACAAGGAAUUCUUUAAUUACCAAAUGGGGUGUGGUUGAUCAAAAUUAAAAGAAAAAAAAAAAAAAAAAGAAUGAAAGCAUCUAUGCUCAUUCAUAUCUGCAAGCAGUGAAUUGAUUGGGGUGUACAGAGUGAAAAUAACAGAAUGAAAUGUUUUUUGUGAAUACAGGUCUUGAGCGAUUCUCAGAAAAGAGCAAUUUACGAUCAGUAUGGCGAAGAAGGACUGAAAGAUAUGCCGCCUCCAGAAAGAUAUGCAAAUGGAAAUGGAGGUGGAUCAAAAGGAUUUAAUCCUAGGAAUGCAGAGGAUAUAUUUGCAGAAUUCUUUGGAAGUAGUCCUUUCGGAUUUGGGUCAACAGGACCUGGGAGGUCUAUGAGAUUCCAAUCUGAUGGAGGAGGGGGAAUGUUUGGCGGAUUUGGAGGAAACGAAAAUAUUUUCCGAUCAUAUAGUGAGGGUGUUACACCAAAGAAACCAACAGCAGUGGAGAGCAAAUUGCCUUGCAGCCUUGAGGAGCUGUAUACUGGAUCAACAAGGAAAAUGAAGAUCUCAAGAACUGUGGUUGAUGCAAAUGGGUAAUUCAUUUUAACACUGUCCCCAGUUUAUUUCUUUGUUUCCUUUAUUGCCAUAGAUUAAUUGGUUAUAAUUUAAAUAGGAUAUAGCAAUUAGUACUUCCAGUAUUUCAUCUGCCUUACAUGGUAGUUAUUUAUGAUUCUAAUGCUAGUCAGUUUAUUAAAUGGCUCAAGUGAGCAUCAAUUUAGCUAAGAUAUGAUCUUUAUAAAUGAUAAUCCCGUUUUUUUUUUCUCAUUGUGUUUCCAGACGUCAAGUGCCAGAACAAGAGAUAUUGACCAUUGAUGUGAAGCCAGGAUGGAAGAAGGGAACCAAGAUUACAUUUCCAGAUAAAGGUAAUGAGCAGCUUGGCCAGCUGCCAGCAGACCUUGUUUUUGUGAUUGAUGAGAAGCCCCAUGACACAUACAAGAGAGACGGCAAUGACCUCGUUGUGAACCACAAAGUGACAUUAGCGGAGGCAUUGGGUGGAACCACGGUGCAUCUCACUACGCUCGAUGGUCGUGAUCUAUCCAUCCCGGUGACUGACAUUGUGAGCCCGGGCUACGAACUUCUUGUUGCCAGGGAGGGCAUGCCAAUACCAAAAGAGCCUCGUAACCGGGGUGAUUUGAAGAUCAAAUUUGAGGUGAGGUUCCCUACAAGAUUAACCCCAGAGCAAAGAGCCGGACUUAAACGAACUUUGGCCGGUUGAAGAGUAUGUCAUGACCUUUUCCAUUGUAAGUUGGCCAACAGUUGGGGUAGCUUUGAAGUCACAUACAUACAAGUCAAAGCUGCAUUUGUUUAGUUUGUAGGCUGUGCUUUCUCUGCACUGGGAUGAAUGCCGGCAUUUUAAACAAGUGAUGUGCCAAAUUACCUAUUGUUUGAUAUACAUUCAUUAUUUUUUGUAUAUUUUGUUGUCAGCAAUCAGUGUUAGGUUCAUGUAUUGUGUCAUUGCUUGUAUCCUUCUAACUUUUCUUUUGCUAUAUCCUUAACUGUUCUGUAUUUUUUUACAAUAUAGUUUCCUACAAGGCAGAUGCACUGAGUCAGUCCCAACCAUUAAUCUGUAUUCAGAAUAAGAAAAUCUCAGAUCAAGUUUUUUCCCAGGAUAUUUUGGGUGUUUUUACCUCUUAUCCAUUGCCUUUGCUUUGCUUAAAAUGGUGGGUAGUCCCAGGAUUCCAACAUAACUAUCUCCACUGAUUAUUAACAGAUGGCAAAUGACAGGAAUUGGACCAUUCCCAAAAUUGGCAUAGAGCGAGAAAUAGCAACAAACAUGCAUGUUGUCCUAAGGAUCUUGAACCUCACGAGUGUUGUCUUUAUUCUUUUUUUUGGGUGGCCAUGAGACCCAGUACAGGUAAAAAACCUUUUUAAGAGAACCUUAUGUUCAGACAGGAAUUGGCAUUAUUACAAAAAUAAAUAAAUAAAUAAAUAAACAAAUGAGAAUUGUCACCAAAAGUAAACAAAUGAUUCUCACAACUUAAAUAUCCAUGUGGUCUGAUGCCUCACCACUUGCAUGACAUUUACUUGUCUUUUUGUCCUUGUUUAGCUCAUUCUGAAAGAUACGAGUUUGUAUGCAUGAAUAAAGUUGGGGGUAUUUAAUGCUCUAUGAUAAAUAAAUAAAAAUUAAAAGAAAAUCCUUUUUUUUUUGGCAAAUCUAUUAUUUUUGCUUACAUUGUCAUCAAUAUUAUUAUAACAGCUCAACCGUAAGAAUAAAUGGAGAAGAAAGGAGAAGGUAUAACUGUACAAACAAGAAUCCAUCUAUUAUUAUCUAACUACAAAUCUUGGAACCUCUCUCUGAUCUUUACAUCCAUGCGUCGUUGAAAUGCAAAAAUCAUUUUUACUUACAUUGUCAACAAACAUGAGCUCCACAUUGCCAUUUCAACACUGUCAAAGCCUCUAAGGCAGCUCUGCCUGCGUGUAUCUCUACCAAGCUCCCCAUCACCCAAGAAAAACUGUUAAAAAAAGGAAGGCUUGAACUUGGACAAUCAUCCAUCCAUUUUGAAACAAGAUUCUUGCAUCGGCGUACUUGAAGCCACGAAGGGUCAUACAUUCUGUGCCUAAAAUAUAGUGUUGGCCACUUCAUUGCCCACCCUACUAUCACCGCGUUGCUGAGUGCCACUGAUCGCAGAGAGAGAGCCCAAAAUGCUCUCACCAACCUCGCUCUUGCAAAGGGGACAAGAUGCAUUGAUCUUCAACCACUUAUCCACGCACUCCUUGUGGAAAAAAUGAGAACAUGGCAACUCUCUCAGCUCAUCAUUGUUUGCGUAUUUUGCCAAGCAGAUGCAACAAACCUGUUCAAUUUUACGACAUUAUUAGUAAUACCGAGUACAAUAGCAGGGCAAAGGCUUCCCAAAAAAAGAAGGAAAAGGGAACCACUCUGUAAAGAAAAAAAUACAUAAUACUUUUAUCAAUCAUACCACCAGGCAAACAUAUCUGGUAAAAUCCGGCAUCAAACCACCCUCUACUAAAUUUUCAGUAUGGUACUACUAGAUUCCAAGACAAAUAGUGACACCAAGAAAUGCCAAAUCAAUACACAUUUGAUAAUUUCAGUGUAAAGAGUGUCAAACAUUUAAAAUCUAGUCUCCAAUUUGAUCAGGAACUUGACUGACUGGAUACAGAAUCACUACACUCAAAUGAAUAUGGGAGGAAGCAGGUUUCAAAUGGCAAGUCAUGUUAUAAUACUACUUAGUGUCAGGGAAGAAAAGUAAUUCACCAAGCGAGUAAUAUCAUGCAUUCAUUACUCAUUUCAUCACUAGUCACUAGUCAGGCAUAGGUCCUAAAUAUAUUGUGAAGACUUGUACUUCGCUAAACUUGCCAGACCAUACAUACCGCAUCCUCUCCAGAGAUCACACGCUCCUUCUCAGUUCCUGCAGCCACAACACCACCUUCAGAGACACCUGCGCUGCUGCUAUCUCUAUUGUCACUAUUUUUGUUUUUCUUUAAUUUGAACUUGUAUGUUGGCAGAGCAUUAAUUGAUUCAGGUGUGGCUCCUCGUGCCUGUGUCAGGUCUUCUCGAAAUCCAAGGACAGAUAUUAUACAAGGAAGACAACAGCAGAUUGUUGCGCACAAAAUGAAAGGCAUGGCGUAUCCAAUACAACUAAAUGUAAGAAAUACUAUACAUAACCUGCAUGGAGAAAAAUUGAUAUGAUCUCCCCACUCAAAAAAUCCAGAACUGGAAAAGUAAAUCAGAUUGACAAAAGUACCUGUAUAGGUUAGGAGCCUCACUGGCAGAUGAGUGCCCACCAAAAAUCCAAACAUUGCCAACUACGAACCAAACCGCAAAGAAACAAUCCAAUGCCAUCUUAAAGUAUUCCACAAGUACCUUGACUCUGUUAGGCAAAAAUGACCUCAUGUGUCAGACAACUUUUUCUAGUACUAGCUUCCUUAUUAAACUUGCAACUCAAGUUACCUUCUCAAGACAAAGGCAAACCGAGUAACAUAAUUUCUAACAAAUAGACACAUAGGCUUCUCAUGGAUAAACAAUUUAAAAUAUAGAAAGAAUCAUAAAGCAACAACACUAACAUGAAUAAAACAUAAAUUGAAAGGGAAAAUAGUUGAAAAGUAGCUGUCAAAUUCUAAAAGACUAUACUAAAUCAAACAAAAUUUACCAUUCUCUUAAAAUUGACAAUAAUUACCAUUCCAGACGAUCUUGACAUUAAUUUAAAGCAACAAGUGACACAGACCAAAAUGGAUUUAGCUCAAAUAAAUUGGAAUAUUCUUCAGGUAAAAAUAUAAAUACGAAAAAAUAACCCAAGAAUGAGACAGCCACAUUGGACCUUCAUUAAUAUGGUUGUAAACUUGUAACAGAGAGAAGCAAAAAGAAAACUCCAGAUACCAAGAUCCUUUCACACAAAGGAUUUGUUACAGAUCCCUAAACUGUACCCAUGUUGUGUAACUUCAACAAGUGUGUUCAAGGAAUUUUAAACCAUCAAGACAAGAGGAACCCAAAUUGUGUGAACUCCCAAAACAUGUAGGCUCCCAAAUUGUGUGAACAUCCAAACCAUCUCUUCUUUUAACCUCUCAUUUUCUGUAAGCUCCCACUGAUAUCACACAAUAGAGACAACAAAAGACACGAGCGACCCUUUAUGAUGAACUAUCAAUAUGGCACUUAUGACAACUUAACUUUAACAAUGAAAACCGAGCGUACUCAUCUCCAAGGAGUUUAAUUACUUUCUUUUGGGGUCGGGAGAGGGAUUGGAGUAGAUAAGGGGCACAACAAUAUGACUGUUCUGAAAGAAUCAUUCAAUGCAGGCACAUUGUAAUUUCACUCAAAAUGAUGCGGCCACAACUCUAAAAAUAGUCUAUGAUAAUGCCAAGAAACAUGCCGUCUCUAUAAUUUUAAGUCUACGUGGAGCUUCAACCUUCAUUGAAUAAAAUAAAAGGUUUUAAAUAUCAUUAAUAAUCAUGCAACUUAGGAAGAGAAUCACAAAAUGUAUGCCAAACAAGGACAAUAUGUUUCAUUUUAUAAAGCACAAUGCCUGAAAAACAACAGCAAACCAUACCUUCGGCUUAGUACUUCCGAACUUUGACUGCUUCUAGAAGAUGCAGUGGUAGUCUGAAGAUCUCCUUCAGAAGUCCUAGAAACAGAAAGAGAAAAUGGUCUUGCUGGUACAUUAAUCUGAGAACUGUGACGGGCUUGAGCAGAAUCUUGUUCUGAAACCUGGUUGCGGUGACGAUAGCGCCAAUAUAGAAGAGGAAGAAUAGCAACACAUCCAGAUGCAUAACCAACAAUCCAUGCAAACAAUGGAGUGCGAGGAUGCUCAUGCCUUGACAAAGACAAAACAACAACAGAUGCAACAAUUUGGCUCACAGUAAGAACCAGUUCAAUAGAUAUCCAUAAUCCAGAAUUCAACGGACUUCUGCGGCGACGAGUAUCCCCUCUCCUUCCUGUUGCACUGUUCCUAGAGUUUGAUCCAUUAGAGGAAAAAAUUGAAGGUUGAAAUGUGGAUGCUCUUGGACUAGUUGAAGGUCUGUCUUCUUGCUGUGAUGCAUUUAAGCUAUUUAAAGAUCUACCAUGUGGCAAGCUAGAUGAGGAGGCAUCACUACUCCCAGUUAUGUCAAUAAUAUGCUCACUUCCGUUCAUAUCCUCAGGUCGUGAUUGCUCCAUUAACAAUGAGGAAGUGUAUGUUUGACUUUCAAGUGGAAGCUUCAAUGACGCAACAUCCAUCUAAGUCCACCGAGACAACACGGAACAGGAAUGCAUAGAUCUUUAGAGCAAGAAUCCCACCUUUAUGUUCAUCUUCUCAAAUGUGCUAACCAACUCACUCUCGUCCUAAAGACCUAUGCUGAACCAACCAACAUAGAUUAUGUGGCACCACGAGAACAAUAUCAAUCCUGUUCAAGAGCAAAAUAUUAAAAUCAGAAUUGUAUUAGUCAUAUUCUCAAAGCAACAUUUUGCUUUUGAUAGAAAAAUUAUAAGAGGUACAAUGGGAAAAUAAGAAUCCAAGGACUUUGUUAGUUCAACCAGUGGAAACAAUCAAGAAAAAACUCGAAUCAGGGAAUAUGCUAAAAGAAAACCAUCAAUUUUGAAAACACUAAAGUAUUAGAACAAAUUUCAAAAUAAAUGAUGUAGAUACUAAAGUAUUAUCAAUAUUAGAUUAGUCAUGCAAACUGAGAAAGCAGAGGUAAUAUUGACAGUCACAUAGAUCAAAAUCUACCCAAUGGUGCAAGUAAAAAAUUAUUUGUUUGGUCACUUGAAAAAUAUGAAACUAUAAUAGAACUAACAUACUGGGCAUUAAGCAUCAAAUAUUGGAGGUUCCAAAGGGCACAAUCCAUCAAUUUUAAAAUAAUAAAAAAUAUUAUUGUUCAACAACAGAAUUCUACUCACAGUUCAACUCCCUACUCUUUUCCUAGAUUUUCUCAGCAACCAAACAGCAGGUAUCAGUUCACCCUUUCUUUCUCUAUAGCAUAACGUUCAAGAAUUUCCCAAUGGGUAAACUGUGCCUUCAAUUCAACAGUUGAUUAAUACCAUUUCAAUAAUAUAUACCAAUCGAAAUCCUAAAAUUCAAAUAUGCUAAUUAUUCUUCAAGAACAACCCAACACUCAAAGAAUCGAAAACACAACAACCCACUUUCAAAUUCGAAACCUAAACCCAAAAACAAAAACCAUUUUUCACAUAAAUUAUUGAUUCCCAAUCUGCUUACGCAUAUACAAUUAUACAUAUAUGGAGAGAGAGAGAGAGAGAGAGAGAGAGAGAGUACCAGAUUGAAGCAGAGUGAGAGGGAGAAGAAGGUGUAGAAAAUAAGGUAGCGCCGUCUGGAAAUCGAGUGAUUGCUAUGAAAUUUAGGUGGGUUUUUGUUGGUACUUGGAGGGAGCGAGAAAUUUAGAGAAAAAUAGCGUCGUGCUGUCAAGACUCAGCUUUGGACCUUCGUUGAGGAAAAGAAAAGAAUUUUUCCUUCUUUUAUAAUUUUUAAUUAUCCCUUUUGCCUUUUUUUCUUUUUUCUUUUUCUUUUUUGCAUUUUUCAUUUUCGGGGUAGCUUCGGUUUCCGUGUACUCUUUUUGGCAAAUAUCAGUUUCCUCCCUGAACUUUAUGGAAAUUGUUAAUGGGCAUGAUAAUUGCUUACGUCAUACUCCACCUGCCCCUCCUCCUCCAGUUGAUGUCUCCAACUCCAACAGGCAACUUCAUGCUUCUUCUUUUUAAUUUUCUAUUUUUUUAUUGGCUUUUUAAAGCAAAUGUCAAACUGGUAUUUUAUACGGAAAUGGCACUAUGACUAUAUUAAAUGUAUUUUUCCCUCUAUACAUUGUAACGUAGAGUUCAAUUCAAUAUGAACAAAUCCAAGGUAUACUUAAAUAUUUGUUUGCAAUAUGAAUUUUUAUUGUAUAACUUUUCAAGAUAAAUUUAAAUCACUUGCAGAUUAUAAGUACGUUUGAACGACUCUAAUCGUUGAUCAAUAUAGAAUAUAUAUACACGUAGAUGUCAAACACUACGACUACUCUCCUCUAUCACAACAAACUAGUCAUGUAUACGGAAAAUAGCACUAUGACUAUAUUAAAUGUUUUCUUUUUCUAAAAUAUCUAUUGUAAAGUUUGACUAAUAAUUAAGGAAAUUGAAUAGUAUAUGAAUUCUUAUUUCUUGUUAUUCUUGUUAUUUCACAUGCCUACGGAUGACUGUGUAAGCAAACAUAAAUCUUCUUUUUAGCUCUAUCUUACUCAGAAGCCAAACACAAAAGACUACCAUCAUUCACAACAAACAAUAUUCAAAUAGGGAUUGGUUAAAUUGCAAUGCAAAAAAAAAAGGUUAAGAUUAAAGAAAUUUGUCUCAUAAAAUCAGUGCUUUAUGACAUGCAUACGUGAUUUAGACUAAUUGAUUAAAGUUUUGUACUCACCCCCGUUAUUAUUUUUUAAACAAAACUACAUGUAUUUUGGUAUAUUAAGUGAAAUUGAAAUAACAAGAAGAAAAAUAUAUAAUUUAGAUAUACUUUUUUGUUUGAAAAUAAUUGAAAUCCACCAUGUUUCUUUUCUUCUUAUUAUAAGUAUGAUUGAUUCUAUACAUAUUGGUACUAAUGCAGUGGCAGAUUCAGACUUUCGUUCAUCUAGGGGCUUAAAAAUAAAUCCAAUCAAUAUAUAGCCAAACAAAAAAUAUUUUGACUUAAAGUGAACUUAGUGGCUGAGUUCUCCACAAAAUUACAGAAUGAGUAAACUUGGUGGGAUCUCUAUUCUUCUUUUAUAUACAUAUAAUUUUUCUUUUUUAAUAUAAGCUUUGGGCUUAAAGUGUAUAUUGAAUGGGCCAUGUGGGGGCUCCACCAAAGAAGGACCUAAAUUUUUUUUAAAAAAUGUGAGUUUAAGUGGGAUUAUAUGGCUGCAACUUUUUUUUUUUAAGUGUGGGCAAGUGCCCACAGAAGCCCUUCAUUGGUUCUACCAAUGUACUAAUGCAGUCAAUCAAUUAAAACUACACACACAUAUAUAUAUAUAUAUAUAUAUAUAAGUUCUUCUAUGCGGAUAUUCGGACGUUAUUAUCGUGUGAACGCUAUAUAUUUUGUAUUACGCCUCCUUGCUUUCCUGUCUGUUUACAAUAGCAUCUGCAUGAUAAUAAUCCGCGGACAUUCGAAUAAAAGAAUAAUUUAUAUACAGAAAUUUUCCUAUGCGGACAUCCGGACGUUAUUAUUGUGCUGAUGUCAUGUAUUUUGUAAUAUCCCUCCUUAUUUUUCUGCAUGUUUACAAUAACAUCCGCACGAUAAUAACAUAAAAACAUCCAUAUAAGAGAAUAAUUGAAAUAAUCUUAGCUAUAACCCUUUCAAAAUGGAGCCUAGAUUUUUUUUCCACGAAAAAACAAAUGAAGGCUAGAUUUUCUACAUGCAUCAUGAGACAUUAUGCCUGUCGCAAUCUGUAUUAUAUUACAAUAAAUUUUCCAAGAUGUCCCAAUCUUCAUUGUGAUAUGUGAUUCACAACAUGCCUUUCAAAACAGAACAAGGAAAUGAAAACUACCAAAGCAAAUCUACAUUACUACGUGUUAUCAGUUUAUCAAUUUCAUCAUCCAGCUCACACUAAAUGACAGAAACCCCUGUUUUAUCCACCAUUUAAAUAACCAAAAUAAAUAGAUAAACAAAAACCCAAUUUCAAAAUAUUUUGGGGUAAAUUAGUUUCAUUUGUAUCUAAUUACACCCAAUCUAACUUCAUUAACACCCACUGUCCUAAAGAGACACCCUGCAUUUCCCGAGAAAAUGCCUUAAUUUUCUCCUCCACCGUGGACAGCAUCCAAAAAGAAAAAGAAAGAAAACACAGAGAAAAACAAGACAGUAAAAAACCCAAAGAUGGGUCCAUUCAUUUCUCUCUCACGGAGAUCACAAACAAUAAUCUGCAACCCAUAAUCACAAAAUAAGAAAGAAACUCCAUAGAUCUCCAUCUCAGAAUCUCUCUCUUUUUCCUUCCCCUACCUGCAAAAAAUAAAAAUAAAAACUCUUUCUUUUGUUUUUUUGAAAUCUUUCAAUGUUGCCUUUCAGAUUCAAACCUUUGCAAUCAACAUCAACCUGAAAUAACCCCCACCUUCAUGUAUAUUUACAUGUCUUCCUCUCUCUCACCAAAUUUAUUGAGAGGUUUCAUGUUUGAUUGGUGAGCUUCAUAUGUAAUCAACCUUGCAUCCCUCAAAGCCUCAAAAUUUCAUUGUUGUUCUUGUUCUUGUGCUGGUUCAAAUCAGAAUCUAACUACAAGAUCUGAUUUUUAAUCAAUGCCCACUUCAAUUUCAAAACUUUGCCUCACUAAAUCUCAUACAUUGUCUCUGUUUGCUCCCCAUUUAACCCCAGAUCUAUGACAGAGAUCUAGGUUAGGGUUUGGUUUCCCCAAAUUUCAUAAUUUAUCGUACUUACCCUCAUGGCUUUUUGAUCUAAAGUCUCUGUCUUUAUUUGAUAUUUUCAUAAAAUUUCACCACAAUGCUCAAGCAAUUCCUCAGUAAACUCCCGCGGAAGGCGCUCAAAUCGGAUGAGCGGCCCGAGUCACCGCGCACGAGCACGCCGCGGUCCAGCUCCCGGACCGGACCGUCCGGAGUGGGCGGAGGAACCCCUCGAUCCAACGGUGGAGGUAACUUGGGCCCGGUUCGAUCAAACGGCCCGAAACGCAUGUCAUCGGCGGUGUUCCCGGCGAGUGUGGUGGCCGGUAUCGAGCCUUUGGUGCCAUUCAAGGACGUGCCCACUUCGGAGAAGAUGAACCUCUUUGUGAGCAAGGUGAGCCUUUGCUGUGUAACGUUUGAUUUCACAGACCCAACUAAGAAUUCUAUAGAGAAAGAUGUUAAAAGGCAGACAUUGCUUGAACUUGUGGAUUUUGUAGCAUCUGGGUCGAUGAGAUUUAGCGAGCCUGCUAUUUUGGCAACCUGUAGAAUGUGUGCUAUUAAUCUGUUUAGAGUUUUCCCGCCAAAUUACAGGAAUGGUGGUGGGGGUGAAAAUGAUGAUGAUGAGCCCAUGUUUGAUCCUGCUUGGCCACAUUUGCAAAUUGUGUAUGAAUUACUGCUUAAAUUCGUGACUUCUUCGUUUCUUGAUGCGAAAAUAGCGAAGAAGUAUGUAGAUCAUUCGUUUAUUUUGAGAUUGCUUGAAUUGUUUGAUUCCGAAGACCCUAGGGAGAGAGACUGUUUGAAGACCAUUCUGCAUAGGAUUUAUGGGAAGUUCAUGGUUCAUAGGCCGUUUAUUCGCAAGGCUAUAAACAACAUAUUCUAUAGGUUUUUGUUUGAGACUGAGAGACAUAAUGGGAUUGCUGAGUUGCUGGAGAUAUUCGGGAGUAUUAUUAGCGGGUUUGCAUUGCCGUUGAAAGAGGAACACAGAAUGUUCUUGUGGAGGGUUUUGAUUCCUCUGCAUAAGCCGAAAAAUCUGGGGUCUUACUUCCAGCAGUUGUCCUAUUGUAUCACGCAGUUUAUAGAGAAGGAGCCAAAGUUGGCAAGUGUUGUUAUAAAGGGUUUGUUGAAAUACUGGCCAAUAACAAGUAGUCAGAAAGAGGUGAUGUUCUUGGGUGAGUUAGAAGAGAUUUUGGAGGCAGUUAACAUGGUGGAAUUUCAGAAGGUCAUGGUCCCUUUGUUCUGCCGGAUUGGAUGCUGUAUUAACAGUUCCCACUUCCAGGUAACUGUCUCUUCAACUUUAGUUUCUCCUUCCAUGGGAUUUGUGUUUAUUCAUCAGUUUGACUCGUAUUAUCUUCAUUUUGAAGUAGAUUUCACACCUAUAAGUUUUAUGAUGGACUUUAGGCAUGUGUACUUUAUUGUUAAGGAAUUUGAUGAUUGCUUCAUGUGUUUGUCAAGGAAUGUAUUCUCGUCUUAGCUCAUUCCUUGGAAAACAAUUUGUAACUUAUCUUAAAUGUUUUCAGGUGGCUGAAAGGGCCCUUUUCUUUUGGAACAAUGAUCACAUUGUCAACCUAAUUGCACAUAACCGUCAAGUGAUUCUGCCCAUCAUUUUACCAGCCUUGGAGAGGAAUGCGCAUAACCACUGGAACCAAGCAGUGCUCAACUUAACUCUAAAUGUCAGAAAGAUGUUUGUGGAGAUGGAUGAUCAGCUAUUCCUCUCCAGUCAUGCUCACUAUAUGGAGGAAGAAGCAAAGCAAAGUUCGGCAGCCAAGAAGCGGAAGGAAGCAUGGGAGCGGUUAGAGAAUGCAGCUAGUCUACAGCCAGUAACUGGAACUACUGCUGUUCUGGUAACCUCCCUAGCAACCUCAAUCGCCUGUUAAAAUAUUAACUUUUGAACUGAUGUUAUAUCCCAACCGUUCCUUUUCCGGUAUUUCCUCUCUUUUUUUAUGGUGGUGGGGAGAUUACAAGUAAUGUAUGGAAAAAUGGCUGUAGUUUGGGGGUGGGAUUUUAUUGUCAUGGUCCUUUGGCAGCCAGCAGUUGUAACCUUGUUUCCAUCUUGUAUUCCCCUGCUGCUGUGUGGGAUGUUAAUUGUUUCCCUCAGAAAGGCUUCUGGGGAGGGCCAUGCAGUGACUUUCCGCAAUUUUCUGUACUACUACUAGCUUAAUGGAUUCCUUUUUGCCCUUUGUAACCCCUCUCUCUCUCUCUCUCUCUCUCUCUCUCUCUCUCUNNNNNNNNNNNNNNNNNNNNNNNNNNNNNNNNNNNNNNNNNNNNNNNNNNNNNNNNNNNNNNNNNNNNNNNNNNNNNNNNNNNNNNNNNNNNNNNNNNNNUAUGAUUUAAUGGGUCCCCCUAUAAAUGCUACCUGAUAUAAUGAAAGGAACGAAUAUGGGGUGAUAUGAAAUAAAAUAAAAUAAAGUAUUGGCAAUAUCAGACAGAAAGUGGAGACUUGAGAUCUCUGAAAGAUAAAGAUGUAAAGGUCAUCACAUCAUUUUCAUCAUGGGUUCCCCUAUUGGCUGGCAGGUGGUUUGAUUGGAAAAAUAUAAAUAUAAAAAGAAGGGGGUGAAAUGAGGUUGCAAGUAAGAAGUUUCUCAACGAAGGCUAACCAUUGAUGUCCAUUGCAGCAGCUCCAGGUUAAAACCUCAUGGCAUCUGGGUUUUCAACAUCUUGAGCUGCUGAGUGCUCUUUGGGCCACCAUUUUCAAGUAUUUGGUUCCCCUGGAAAGCUGGAACUUAGACAUGAAAAGGCAAAGUUGUCACCUUGUUAGGCAGAUGGGAAAAGAAAGCUGAAACAUCUUUCUGCAGCUGCUAUAAACAUCUACACUACAGCCUCCAGAUUAUGAGGGGCUCUGUCAAAUAAUAAUACUAUGCACCCAAAUGAAAAUGAAAUAACAUGUUUAUUUAUUUGGAAUAAGUAUUGGAAUUAUUGUGUGCUUAGUUACUAACACAUACGGAAUAAAAAAAUACCGAGGCCAUGAUAAUGAAGUCGUUGACCCAUACCCAGUCAUUUUCUCUCAUGUUCCUAACUCCUUUGAUCAUACCUUUUAUUGGAGUGGCAUAUUGUAAUUAACACACCCAACGCAAUUUUAUAACCCGGCACAUCUUUGAAACAAUAAACGACAACCUUGUCUAAGCCCAUAUUUACAAACGGCAGCUUUGUCUUAAAAAUGCAACAAUAACAACGGUCCGUUGUCAGUUGGCUGAACAAAAAAGAUAAUUGUUUGUCCUUGCCGAAAACAAACCCAACUAGCCGUUACAGACAAAUUCUCAAGAUGAACAAAGUUUUUUGCUAAAAAAACGUUUUUUUGUCUUUGUAAAACACUUUUACUUGAUUAUAUAUAUAUAUUUUGUUUAUAUUAAACCCAACAUAAGGAUCUGCGCAUAUCACCUCUGUAGCUCACAUUUUGAUGAUGGUAGGCGAGAGGAAGUCAUGCUUAGCACACAAUGAGAUAAGAAUCAAUCAAAUGACUGAUAAACUAUUUUCAUUUUUUUUUUUCAUAUAUGAGGGGUUUUGGAUACAUAAUAAUCAAGGAGCUGCAGUUCCUAUUUGGAGCCUGCAACCCAUCGCAGUCACUCUUAAAACUUCCCAAGUGCUGAGAAGUUUUGAUACAUUAUUUUGCCAAGAGGCAAAAUGUGCUUGAUCUAAAAAAAAUGAGGUUACAAAGACAGAUCUGGAAGCACCAGAAUGAGAUAACAUUAACAACGAAGGACCGACAGACGAACAGACAACAAAGUUAGGGUACGGAUAGUCAAUGAACUUUCAUGUUGGAGCUCUGGAUGUCCCUCAAAGUUCCAGAAUGCAGAGAGCUUCCCCAACUGAUAAAUAUCCUGAUCCAAGUCUUAGAGAAGAAUCAGCGAUUAUUGAUCUUGGAAAGAGCGAAUCACCCGUUGUUUGGAGGUCAAAGUAGCCACAGACUUGAACUGUCAAGAAAAUAACUAAAUCAAAAUGCUGAGUAUCAAUGAUGCACAACUAAACAUCACUUUCAACAUUAAAACGUGCCGUUUUAAGAAUCUACACGCCUGCGGCGAUACGAGUAGGCUUCACAUGAAUUUGUUAGGAGAUGGUCCUUUUUAGUUCUAUUAGUUUGAUCUGAGAGCUAGGUGAUCCGUCUUUUGAUGAACACAAAAGGAUCCUCAGAAGUUCUGAAGGUACUUCCGGCAAUACUUCUAGUGUAUGAUAAUAGGUUUUGCCAGAUGCAAUAACAGAAUGAAAUGUACAAGUAUUAUUCUACCCAACAUUCUGUUGGGCUUUGUGGUCAGUCUGCAAAAUACCUUCUGGUGUCUGUACUUCUCGCGUAUCGCAUUUAGGGGACAGCCCUUGGUGUUCAAUUGCAAAUCUUCUAGUGCAACAACUGUAGUUUUGAGCUCUGAUGUUUUGUAAGAGGUAUAGCGCUCUAAAGUAGGAUUCUGCAAGAAUCAAACAUGAACGUUAUUUUUGACAAUUCUCAACGAAGAGGUAAGUAAAAACCUUUACGAAGAAGGCACAGAAAUGCAAACCCAUGGAUGGUCAGACUGAUCGAGUGUCCAUCUGGCAAGGAACACAGCAGAGGCAGCAAUGAGGGAAGGUAGGAACUUCAGGAAACCAUAUUCAGCAAGAGUCAACUCUGCUAAAUAAUUUGCCAAUAACUCCAGUUCAACACAAGGAACCUGCAUAACAAAUUAAUUAAAAUAAAACCAUUUUCUUGUAUGGCAAUUGAUUUUCCAGAAGUAACGAAUGGGGACAACACUCCAUUUAGAAUACCUUAUAAGAAGCUUGUGCUGCAUGAAUGAACCUCCUGAAACACAAAAAUAGGUUUAUUGAACUCACUUUAAAUGACAUUUUCUAAGCAACAUAGAUAAAGCCUGGUGAGCGCAUUACCUAAGAAAUGUUUUUGUGGUGGGAACAGAUAACUGGAAGUGCAAGAAAUUUAGAACUUUACUCUCCAUUUCUAAUACCUGCAAGAGUUAUUCAGGAACUUUAUAUGUCAGUAUAUAACUAGUGAUACCACUGGAAAGGAGGUAAUAUCAAGCAGGAUGUUGGGCAUUGCCAUGUGAACUACAAAACUGGAUUUUGCUUUUGAAUUAUGGUACGAAAACAAAUCAAAGUUUUAUGCGUCUAAUGUAGGCAAAGUCUAUGGCUGAGACGAGAUAAAAAUCAACUGCAGCACCCAGGAUCAUGCAGUUGAAGUUGAUGGAAAUAAGAGAACUCCAGAAGGCUACCAGCAUGCAUGGAAAAGCCAAAAGCAGUCAUAAUUAGACAUGUCAUGUAGCCAAUUUCAUACCUCGUCUCUUGAGUAAGUAUUGUCCGUGAUGAAGCAAAAUUCUUCCACUCGCGGUGCACAUAUUUCUUCAUACUUCCUUUUGAGUCAUAACAAAAAAUACAUACCCGUCAAGCAAUGUAAUGAUGAAAUAAUCAGGAGAAAAAUAUUGUUAUUGAUUCCUUGUUCACACACAUGUGCCAGUGCACACACCACACACAAAUAUAAAGAAGUCUGUCCACGUAUACCAAAGAUGACUUCCUGAAAUAGCCUCAGUAAACAUCCCUAAGGAUUUAUUUCAUAAUUAAUUGACUACAAAAAAUUCAUCACAUUUCACUAGAAACCACCACCUAUUCACCUAAUAUAGCACUUACGAGGCAAUUAGCGUGCAAGUGACUCCAAGCAGCUGAAGCCUUUGCUUUUCAACAUAAUUGUGAGAGAGAAACCGAUCAAUGAGAUUUACUGUGAGGUAAAGUGUAUCUGGAACCAGCUUAUAUUCUUCGGAAACCUGAUAGAGACGUAAGUUAGUAUGGAUGCUUCCAAACAAGGGCACACCAUUUCGUAGAAAUACUAUAGUCAUUAGGUACAUCCGAUUAUACUGACCUCUACAAGCCAAUCAAUCAAAAUUCCUCGCAUGCUUGGAGUGAUAUCUUGCUGCAAUGUUUCCAUAUAAGUAGUUGACGGUCUUCGCUCCACCUGAGGAAGAAUAAGUUUCCACUAAAAGUCAGAAUCAAUUAUGUUACUGAUAGACAGCAAAUUAGUAGCUCACUAGUCCUUGAAUUAUUCUAUGUUUCAAAUUAUAUAGGAAACCUCACAUUUCUCUGUCCUGUCAACACAAGUGAAGAUUAAAUAUUGCAAUAGUAUUAUGUUUAUUAAUAACGUCAGACUCUAGUAAAAGGGCUCCAACACUAACCUCUAUAAGGCUUAUAUUACUGUAUAUAUCAGGGGCAUACAAGCUGCACGCUUGAGGAUCCUUUAAGUUUGAGUCAAUAUCCACGAUGUCCAGGUCAUUUGAGGAUCCCAAUAUCUCCCAGAUCAUAUUUUCUUCUGCAUAGUCCAAUGAAAAACAUCAUCAAGCUUUGCUAAUGUCAACAUGAAAACAGAAGUCAGUAAUAGCAAUUAUACAGGUGACUGAGCAGUAAUCUUCUUUCUGUAACAAAGGAAAUUCCAUAAUUGCCAAAGCGUGCAUCAGCAGGUUGCAACAACUUUUCACAACCCCUUUAAAGCCAAUCAAAAUUUCUUGUAAACUAAUAAACUGAAAUUUCAACACUAAGAAAGACUCAAUUUUGCAAUCAGAAGGCUCGGAACAAAACUUGUCAUCUUAGACCUUGCAAGCAUCCCUCUUAUGAAGUACAGACAUAGAGAGUGGACACCCUUAAGUUAGCCAGUUUAAAAAGAUAAGUCAUAUACUGUUGCACUCUCCUGAACAAAUCUGAAACAUAAAAUGUACCUUUCUUUUGGGGGUUCUGAAGUUCAGCAGGUUCUGCGGAAGGCUGUACUCUAAGCAUCAAAUCUGCUCCUCUAUGUUGUCCCAAGAUAUGACACAUACCCUGGGGUACUGGCUCUUUUUCUCCCAACUUCACUGGCAAAGUGGCUUCUAGGGGUUCUGCCACCCUUAUUUUGGAUAAUUCAUCAGCUAACUUUGCUUUUGCGUCCUCUUGAACCACUGUACUUUCUUCCGAGACAUUUGAGGCUGCCUUUACAUUCUUUGCAAGACCUCUUCUGGCCUGCUUACUAGCCUGUCAGGGAGCAAUACCAACAAAUUCUAAGUUAGAAUUACUUUAAUGAACAUACAGAAGCAUGCUAGAUCCUACACAUGCUUAAACAAUGGCUUUGUGUUACAGACAAACCAUAUCCUCUUUUUCAUUAAUGGAGGUAACAAUUAAUUUUAUUUAAAAUCAUGUGAGGCCUCUGGAGAAAAAUAGUAUUCAUUGACUAUUCAAAUUUUUUGCAUAUUAGAAAGGGAAAUAUGCAAAUCUGUACCUGAACCUGAGAGGCAUCAGUGGUGCAUUUCACAUAUGAAUUUUCACAGAUGACGUUUGCUACAUCUUUAAGAACUGCCCUCCUUUUAUGCUGCAAGCCAAUGGUGGCAAUUGCAGAUCCUUUGUUCUCGUCUGAUGCUGCUCUUUUGGAAUUUGCUCGAACACCAUGCUUCUGAUCUUGUUUAAAGAAAGGUUUUGAGGAGGACACUACCUCCCCGGAAGUGCCAAAGGCUUUAGCCCGUGCCCUUGUGAUUCGGACGGUAGGCUCUUCAACUUUGGCAGCAUUUGUAUUUUCUUUAUUCAUCUUUGCCUACCUUGUAGAAGAGCAAUGAGUGAAUUCAGAACGAAUUCUUGUUCAUUGAACCUGCAUUUUCAAAUCAGUUGAUGUCAACAAGAGAUACUGCGUCAUCCGACACAAGCAAGCAGAACAAACCCAACCCGAGAAAGCAUUCGGGGCCAAGUAUGAAAGGAUCAAAAAGACGUGUUUUUUAAUGAUCAUCAACAAAAAUUUGAUUUGUACAUCGUCUUUUUGUGUAAGUUGAUAUCUCCUGUUAAACCAAAUACUAUUAUCCAUUUUACACAACACAAUACAACAGAAGUUGGGAAGGCAUCUUCGUCUCAAUAAUAAAUCCAACCAUUUUUUCUUCUAUUGAAAAAGAAAAAUCAUGGUGCUUUACUCUGUUUUCCUUUGACAAAACCCAUGACAGCUUGCAAUACAAGGCCUUAAAUGAAGAUAACACAAAGGGUCCUACACCACAAGCAUAGAACAAAUUUUCAGCUCUUUGUUCUUGUCGAAGCGAGAAAACCUUUGGAAAUAGAAGAAAACAAGCGUUUUAAUCCACCGUUGGCUGGUGUUACUUAAAUUACAGGAGAAACUCACUUCAACCAAGCCCAGUUGACCAAACAUUUUUCAUUUUUCGUCGGUCCAGAGUGCAUGAAAGACAAAUGUUUUGCAGCCUGCUAUUUCUCUGACACAUUUUUCCGAGUAACCAAACAGAAGAAAAAACAUUUAAUAAGAACCCGAGACACCGUAAUAUCCAACCCCAAAACCCUAAUUUCUUCAAAAUUUUCAACUAUCACCGCACCAGAUCGUCAAAACCAUAACAAAACAUAAAAUCGCAAACACAUUUGACAAAAGGCGGACCAAAAUCCAAACCAUAAAAAUGUAAAAAAUAUAAGAAUUUAAAAGAACAAAAAUGGGAAGAGCCAGCCCCGAGAUCUAUGUAGCGAACCCGUCAGGCGUAAAAAGGACGUAGUUCCAUUAGAAUCUGGCGGUGGAAAACAGAGCGACGAAGCUCAAACACCUAGAAUGCAAAAAACAACCAAAAAAAAACUAUGCACGGCUAUGCGUUUGGGAGCUGAGCUUACUCUGUUGGUGGGAGCUCCGGCACCUUCUCCGGUGACGGUUUGAAGAGCUCGGGGGAAGAAGAAGAAGCAGAGGAAAUAUGGAGGCUAGCUUCGGACAGAGAAUUGUGUGGAAGUGACAGUGAGUGUGAGAGAAAGAGAGAGAGUGUGUGUUUGAUAUAAGGGGGGAGAGAGAGAGGGGAGCGUGAGCGGGACGGGGUUUACAGUUUGAACUUCCAAAAUUCCAAAUGGAAGCCAAAAAGCAAAAAAUAUGUAUUUUUUUUGUUGUUGUUGUUUUGACUUAUUUCCGCCGAGUGUUUUGUAUUAUUUUAUUUCACUUUUUAACACAUGAGGUGAGAACUGAGAUUGUCUUUUGAUGGGUUAUGAAUGUUUUUUUUUUCCUUCAAAUAUCUACCUUGUUAUGUUAUGUUCUUAUAUUGUGAAUAUAUUAAUUAUCGAUUCAGACAUUAAUACUAGAGGGGCGAGUUUUUCACUUCGAGUUUGGUACAUUUUCACUCUUUCCGUAACAUGAUCUAAGCGAUUAAAAAUUUAUUAACGCUUAAAUGGUCAAUAUAUAUGAAAACUUGCAUGUCACAAGUUCAUACGCAUUUUUCUUUCUCUUCACAUGUCAAGUCACGUGAAGAAAAAUAUAACAGGUAUAGAUAAUUGAUGUAAUAAAAUUUAAAGAAUAUGAGAGUGUUUGUAGUCUUUUUCUAUUAAACUUUUGUCUUUUUUUAAUUGUUCUUUUUGAAUCAAUUUGUAAUAUAAAUAUCCGGAGUAUAAAAUAUGAUGUGAAAUAGGUUGAGCUGUAACAACCCAUUUGAAUAAGUGUUUAGAAAAUAAUAUGGAUUUAUUUUCUCAUUAAUAUAUAUCAUUGACCCUACUACAAGCAAGGGCACGCUGACCUCUAAAAUUGUGUCCUACAUGAAAAUUUUGAAAGGUCCCUAUCACCUAUGCUAUAGUAUGCUAGAUGCCAAUAUAGGGGCAAAGGCCGCCGUCCCAACUCCCAAGUCGGACUUUUGAAUGAGGCAUAGGUAGCCCUAAAUAUGCAUACUUUAUUGGGGCAGUUUUUAAUGACACAUCCAUUUGUUGCAAUUCAAAAUUUUGAUUCAUUUUCUCUCUCCAAUGCUAGAAAAUGCCUCGAGUUCAAAUUCUUUAUUUUUCGUUAAUAAAAUUAAGGUCUUGAUAUUUUGAUAGUAAUGAAUAUCAGCCUUUUGAUUUCGAGUCGAAUUUUAAGAAUUAUGCAUUUUAUGAUCAUCGAUGACCACACAAUGUACACAUACACUUAAUUAGUAAAAAAAUUUUACCUUUAUUUUUAUUUAUAAAAUUAAAAAAGUUCGAAAUAUGGUUGGUUUUGAUUGAGUAAAUUAUGGUGUUUUAGUGAUUCAAAUUUUUUUCUCCCUAUCCCCCAUGAGAGAGGGAAUUGACAAAAAGUCAAAAUGGACUUCAUAUGAAUCUCAACAUUUUGAAACAAAUGAUUUCAGAGUAAUUUGGGCAAACUCGACUGAAUUUCCACUUGGGUUUUCUUCAACAUUGACAGAUCAAUAAUCUUUGAUUGGAAAUGUAUUUUUAAGACUGAUCCAGUUAGCCCCCCCAUGUGUGGUGGUCAGAUUCAAAUGGUUUCAGCAGAAAUGGAAAGGACUUGUUGUCUUAUAAUUUAUGACAAACUUGCUGGUUUUGUCCAUUAUUUAUUUUAUCCAUAGCGAUUUAAAAAAAUUUAACAAUGUCAAAUAUUUAUGUUUUUAAAAUUAUAAAAGGGAAAAAAUAUGAGAGUAAUUAGAGAUAUUGAAGAAAAUAUAUAUAUAUAUAUAUAUAUUUGUCGUAAUUUUUUUGCAUUUUCUUUAAAAACCAAAAAAUUCAUUAUCACUUUAGUAAUCUUAGAAAUGUCAUCCAACCAAGAAGCCCUUAGAUUUUGGAUCGAGUCACUCAAUAUAUGGUAACUCAUGAAAAAAAAUAUAGAGAUUUUUAUUUUCUAAAAUCUUGUAAAAAAUUCCCCAAAUCUAGUGAAAAAUUCCCCAAAUCUAAUGAAAAAUUCCCCAAAUCUAAUGAAAAGUUUCCAAAGAAAAAAUUAUUAUUAUUUUAGUCAUAUAUGGAAAGAAAAAAAAAAUUCGGUGGUAAGAAUUAUAUAUGGAAAGUUUAAAAUUAAGAGCCAAAUAUCUGGUGGAAGUUAUUUAUUUAUUUGAAAAAAGAAAGAAUGGUUGUCCUGAUUCCUGAAGCCCAUUUAAAAACUUUGUAGAUCCAAAAGCCGAAGUGGUCCAUUGUGUGUGGCCCUCUCUACGCACUCCUACGAGGUGGCCCCAACCCCUUUUCACACAGUGAAAGCCCUCAGCGGGAGGCAAAGUGUGUGUGUUUGAUGAGGUCCCGACAAAUCUAUUUUGGAAAAAGGCACUUGAAAUAAAGUUUUUAUUUCCAGAUGAAAAAAUAUAUAAAGUUAUUUAUUUGAAUGAUGAAUGAAUAAUAAUCAUAAAAAAUGUUGACUUUAAAUUCAAAAGGUUGUAAUUAUAAGAGAGAGUUUGGGUUUAGGCAGGCUCUUCCAAAAAGUGUAAAUAAAAGAUGGCCAAUUCUGCUCCGCUCCUCCCUUAUCACCUUUUCUACCUUGAGAAAACCUUAGGAUUGUUUCUGACACGUUGCAAUACUGAGUGGUAAGAACAACCUCACAUAAGCUUCUUUCCGUAUAGCUUGACUUACGGCUAAUAACAUGUUUACUUGCACAAUGAGAAUGAAAAGCAACCGUGGUCCCUGUAAAAUUAUGACUUUGAUUCCUGAUAUUGGGGGAAUUGAAUUCUUGAGGAGUAGGUAGGAUUAGGCAAGGAUGAACCGAAAUGACCUUUUUUUUACCCAAAUUGUCCUCUUAUAUUUUGUGAAAACACCAAAACACACAUUAUACGUCCACUCUUUUUUUGGUCGAAACCCAUUAUAUGCCCUUUGGCAAAAGAAAAACAAUAUAUAUUUAAAUAUAUUGCAAGUAAAUAAUCAAACUUAUUAAAAAUGAAUAAUUUUACAAAUAUUUAAUUAGAUUUAUUAUACUAUAUAUAAAAAAUUGGUAGGGGAAGCAUGGGAGAACAAGAAAACUUGGGAAUGUAACAUAAGUUACCUUGAAAUUAGACCAACUAUGAUUCGUAUAAUUGGUUGCCGAAAGAUAACAUAAAUUCUUGGAGAUGACUCACUACAGCCAUACUUACGCUAAUGUAGUAAAACAAAUCAAGAGAUUACAUGUAAUUAAUAAUCAAUACGACACUUGAAUCAAACUUCGCAAUAAUAUUUACGUGUCAUUUUAUUAUUAGUUUGUUGUAUUGUGUCGUAAUAGUUAUUUAUUUGUACAAAAUUCUACACACAGCCGAACAUAAAAAUUGGAAUUUUGGACAAUCGUCUCAUCUCAAUAAACCCGGAUGACAAAUGUGGAUCAUAAUUCAUAAUCUGGUCUCUUACUUUUUCCACUGGGGGAUCCUCUGAACCACAACCUGCAAACCACAAUCAGAACAAUAUUUGCAUAACAUAAGUAAGUAAUCCAUUCUGAAUGCUUGGGUUUAAAAAGCAUAGGAUUUUUCCUUCUUGUUUUGAAGUCAAAUCAAGAUAAAAAAAUAUUUUGAAAAUACUUUACACGUACGAAUAAAAAAUAAAAGGAGAGUGGUGAGAAGUACCUUCCCAGAAUUUUCCUUAUUUCCAACUAUAGUUUGACAAGCAAGUCUCCAAGAUUCGGGUUUCUGUAUGUUGUUUGACCCAAUGUAAAAAUAUAAAAUAAAAUAAAAUAGAAAUAGAAAUUUACUUCAAAUGAGAAAUUAACAAAAAGUGAAAAGAAAACCCACAUUUACAGGAAAAAAGAAAAAGAAAAAGGAAAACAAAGGAGAUUAGUUUAUCAAGAGAGUAGUGUUUUUCAGGGGGUGAGAGAGAGAGAGAGAGAGAGAGCUUGCCUUCUUCAAAUACUUGAGUUCAGUAUUUGUUCUUUCAUUCAAAAGGUCCUUCCCAUCAAUAAUCUGCACACCCAAAAAAAAAAAAAAAAAAAAACAAGGAAAUUAGCUGAAGCAAAUCUUCCAUAAGUUUCAACUCAAGAAACUAGGGAAGACACAAUAUAAUAUGAAUGUUGAGAAUAUUCAUACCUCUACUAUACAAGUCCCACAGCUUCCUCCUCCUCCACAGUUCAUCAGUUUCCCCUACAAUUAAAAUUGCAACGCCUUUUUCAAUCACUUGUAUUUCACAUAUUUGCUUAUUAUUAUGAAAUUCUAUGUAAUUAUGCUAGACAUCAGCCCCAUAAGGUGUGUCAUGUAAGAGUAGUUAGGUUCACAAGUUGUGUACAAGGAAGGGAAUCGAACUCGAGUGCAAGAGGAAUGACAUACUGCCUUAAUCAACUGGUCUAACUUAUGUGAUUUAUUUAUUUAUUUUAAAUUUGGGUUUGAAUGUGCAUUGCUCCAAUAGGCCCCAUAGUUAUUGGGCUGUGAUACCCAAUUACAAUUUACAGAGACGGCGCACGUUAGAAACUGUGGCAGGAAAUAACUAAAUUACGCGGGAUGCAAUGUGAGGUAGUUAGUUAGCAUUGAAGAGUGAGAGAGCACUCACAUACGUGGCGUAGAGCUCGAUCUUGUUAUCCGACAUGACAUCCCUUAGCAACUUCUCUCCACUAAUCGCCUUCGCGCUCUCCACCGGAUACGACCCGUCGUUCCCGGGCUUCGGCUAACCCAAUCACAAAACUUCAGACAAAUAUCUAGUAAUUACAUAAUUUUAAACUAAAAUAAAUAAAUAAAUAAAACGGCAUACCCCUAUGAAUUCGAGCUCGAUUUCGGGCUUUCCGGGCUGAGCUGGAGACAUUUCUGCCGAAAUACCGGCGAAAGAGACCGAAACGGACUUCCUUCUGGGGAGAGUUUGGUAAUCUCGGGUCCCGGCGCCGGAGAGUUGCUCUGGCCGGAACGACACGGCAUUCGUGAAUUGCAUGCAAGCCAUGUUGGAUGUGGUGUGUGCUUCUCUCGCUCACGCACUCUCCUUCAUUUCGUUUCGUUUCGUUUCGUUUUAAAUAGGCAAAAAUAGUUAACGAAGUUGAGGAAGGGGUAUAGUGGUAAUUUUAACUGUACUGAAACUAACAAGUUUGGAGCUCAGUGACAGUGAGUCUCUCAGUCUAGGAGCCCACUGGUUGUUAUGCCCUCUCACAAAACCCGCCAUUUUCUGUCUCUGGCGCUCCUCCUCUUCAAACCAAACCCUAACCUUAACCUUCGUGCUCUCUCUUUGCGAUUCUUCUCCAACCAGUCAUGGCUGUCCGUACGAGGCAACCCCAUCAUCAAGUGGCCCUCGCCGCCCGACAUACCGUGCUCUCUCCCGCACCCGAACCCCGCCCCAAACCCUAACCCUAACCCUAAUAGCUCCGGCCCCAAUUUUUCACAAAAUGACUUCUCUACCAUCGCUAACGUGCUCGCCGACCCUAGCAUUUCCCCCGGUUCAUCGCUCCAGAGCGCAUUGGACCGGACCGGAAUCGAGCCGGGUCCGUGUCUGUUACAGGCUGUGUUCGACCACUUCGAUUCGUCUCCCAAAUUGCUUCACACGCUGUUUCUUUGGGCAGAAAAGCGGCCGGGGUUUCGAUCCUCUGCGACGCUCUUCGGCUGCAUGAUCAAUGUCCUUGCUAAGUCGAGGGAGUUCGAGUCGGCGUGGUCUCUGAUUCUUAAUCGGAUCGGUGGAGAUGAGGAGCCUGGUUUGGUUUCUGUAGAUACGUUUGUGAUCAUGAUCAGACGGUAUUCCCGCGCAGGUAUAUUGCUAUGUGAUUGUAAUAAUGUACUUAAUUGAAUGUACAAUUUUAAUUUUUAGUUUAAUUAUUGAGUUUUCAAGUUCAAUUGGGCAUCUUGGAUUUUUGAUACAUGUAGCGUAGGCCUAGUUUAUGGUUCUCAAAUUGAUUGAAUCUGAUAAAUGGUUAGUUAGAGUUGCGAGUUUACACGUUGGUAAUCUCUGCAUAACUUUGGCCCUUCACAAUUUGAAGAAAAGUUCUGAGCUUGCAUGUACAACUUAGUUGGGGUUGCCUAAAGUUGCUUGUAUUCUGAAAUUAUAUUUGGGUUUUAUGGAUUAGGAGGGUUGCAUAUGCAUUUGUGUUAGACCUGUUUUUGGUAUUGAUUCACUACUUUUAAAUCCAUCAUCCUUUCCGGUGGUGGUACAUUUUAUGCAGGUAUGUCCCAAUCGGCAAUCCGGACUUUUGAAUUUGCAAGUAAUUUAGACUCAUUUCUUAAUUCAGAGUCAGAAAUGAGUUUGUUUGAAGUUUUGUUGGAUUCCCUUUGUAAGGAAGGCCUUGUUAGGGUGGCUUCAGAGUACUUUGAUAUGAAAAGAAAGUUGCAUCCAGAUUGGAUUCCAUCAGUUCGGGUUUAUAAUAUACUGUUGAAUGGAUGGUUUCGAUCAAGGAAGCUGAAACGGGCAGAGCGGCUUUGGGCGGAGAUGAAGAGGGAUAAUGUGAAACCUAGUGUUGUAACAUAUGGUACACUGAUUGAAGGAUAUUGUCGGAUGCGUCGUGCUGAAAUUGCAAUUGAAUUGGUGAGUGAGAUGAGGAGUGAAGGAAUUGAGCCCAAUGCAAUUGUGUAUAAUGCAAUAAUUGAUGCGUUGGGGGAAGCUGGGAAGUUCAAGGAGGCAUUGGGGAUGAUGGAGCACUUUUUGGUCCUCGAAUCAGGCCCUACUAUUUCAACGUACAAUUCACUGGCAAAGGGCUUUUGCAAGGCCGGAGAUCUUGUAGGGGCUAGUAAGAUCCUUAAGAUGAUGAUAAGUAAGGGUUGUGUCCCUACUCCAACAACCUAUAACUAUUUCUUUAGGUACUUUUCAAAGUUCGGGAAAAUUGAGGAGGGAAUGAACCUUUAUACCAAAAUGAUUGAAUCUGGGUAUACCCCGGAUCGGCUUACUUUCCAUCUUUUAUUGAAGAUGUUGUGUGACGAGGGGAGAUUGGGUUUGGCAGUUCAAGUUAGCAAGGAAAUGAGAUCUAGGGGAUUGGAUAUGGAUUUAGCUACAAGCACCAUGUUGAUUCAUUUGCUUUGCAAUGUGCAUAAAUUCAAAGAGGCUUUUGCAGAGUUUGAGGACAUGAUACGGAGGGGUUUAGUUCCUCAGUAUCUUACUUUUCAGAGAAUGAAUGUCGAGUUAAGGAAACAAGGAAUGACUGAGAUGGCACAUAAGAUGUGCAACAUGAUGUCUUCCGUUCCCCAUUCAACAAAUUUGCCAAACACAUAUGUCAGAGAAAGAGAUGCAUCUCAUGCAAGGAGAAAAUCUAUAAUCCAGAAGGCUGAAGCAAUGUCUGAUUUGUUGAAAACUUGUUCAGAUCCAAGAGAACUUGUCAAGUAUAGAAGUUUGCCUGAGAAUGUUGUAUCAAGAGCAAACCAGUUGGUAGAGGAUAUUAAGAGAAAAGCUAACAUCCAAUGAUAUAUAUUUUUGCUUUUCUUGGGUAACAGGCAUUAAGUUUUGGAUUCAGUUGGCAUUUUCUGAAAGGUAGGUAAACAGGAGUUUACUGCAGGAUACAGAGGAAGUUUUCCAGCAGAAGAAAUAAAGACUCUUUAAAUUCAUGUGCAUUUUGGUAAAAGUUUGAUAUUUAUAUGGGACAACUACUUUUGGAGGGCUUCCUUUAUAUGGAUUCAGACUACUUGUAACGUUAGAAACUUUUUGCAAUAUUGUAGCUGUGCAGCAUUCUGAAUCCUGAUGGACGUCUAUUAUGCAGUCAAGUGGUUUGAAUGCAGGUUCAUCACACAUACAAACUGCGUUGUGGUGGUACAAGUAAAGAGAGACUAUGAAAGAGACUAUGAGACAUAACUGGAUGCGCAUCUGGACUUUGGAGUCUUGGGGGCCCUGAAGGAUGGUGACGUUAGUGUCCUUUGUAAAUAGAUGGCAGUUGACCAUUGAAACAGGAGCGCAUGGUAUGUACAAUUUCCAACUAAUUAACCUUUUAAUCAAGAGCACAUGAAGCUUCCUGAUUUAAGAAACAAUCUGUUAAUUUGAUUUGCCGCAUUCAAGUCAAAUUGGUUUAGUUUCUUAUGCUGCUGACCCUUGAUCAAGAAAUAUGUUAUUGUUGACACAAUGUUGAAUAUGUUAUUUUCAACUUGCAGUGUUUUAACUUAACUCGAAGCAUUGGGACACAUGACAUAUAACAUUAUGAUAUUACUUCUUCUGAGGUCUUUUUUUUUGUUGUCUUUGAAUCAGGCUCACUGGAUGCCUUGUCUUUGCAUGUGGACUUGUGCAUUUGGAAUUUGUCGAAGGUCUGCAAAUACUGGGUUGAAGAGCAGUCUUCGCAUAUUUUUUUGUUCGCAAGUGCAAAAGAUGCAAAAGAGAAAGAACCAUCAAAACGUAGCCACCAGCCGUUCUAUUUUUGUGUGGGAGUGUUGUAUUACUAGCAGCUUUUUUAUCAUAUAUUUUUUUCCUUGGUCAAAUCUUUUUUUAGCAUUUAAGUUUUGGUCUUUAGAGGGAUGGAGGACAAUGGACAUGUUAGAGAUAUAGUCCAAUCCCCACGGAAGUUUCCGUCAAGUUGGAAUGGGUUUCACAGUAUUUUUGCACUUAUUUUCGAUUGUGCUAGUCAAUCAUGCCUGAUGAGACUUGUAUGGACAAUUGGAUAUAUGUGAUGCCUGAGGGCCAAUUGACAGACAAAAGCCUGAAAGAGAUUUCCUUUGGAUUGUCAAGGGAUUUGAAAAAAUCCCAAGAUCCAUCCUUGUCGAGUAAAAUAAAAUGAGAAGGUAUAAUCGCUUGAGCUACAAAAACUAUUUUAGGCCCCGUUUGGUUCAUGGGAAAGGAGGUUUGGGAAUGAGAAAUCAAUUGUUUUUUCAUAUUUAAUAAGUUCAGACAUAGGAAAUGGUUGCCUGAUAGAUGGGAAAGUAGAGAGGAAAGUGAAGUCCUCUUCUCAACUUGAGUUUUGUUUUCCCUCCUCAUCGGAAAGUUUGGGAAAGUGAGCCAACAUUAAGUGCAUAUUGUUCAUGAUUAUUUUGUCCGCAUUAACAAUUUAGAAUUACACUAUAUCAUUAAAUACAUUCUUGUUUUUAUUUGAUUUAACAUGAGUAUAAUUGUAAAAUAAACAAAUUUUGUUUUUCAUUCCUACUCAAAAUAAACAUGGGAAAUAAAAUAAAGUGAUAUUUUCCGGUUAUGUUCAUGGCAUUACCAAACGUGAAAAAAGAAUCUUCUGUUUCCCAUCCCUUAAAAAAUGACAUGGGAAGUGAUUUCUCCUUAAAUUCAUUUCGUGAAUCAAACGGGACCUUAGAAUGUGAAUAACGACUCUCUUGAAGAUGUCAUUCCCUCCCACUAGUAAAAGAAAUUACAUAUGUCAAUGUAGAAGCACAGUUAUAUUUCUGUGCUUAGCUUGUGAAAAUCUCUGUCUAGCAUGGAAGGCAAGGAGAUGUGUGGGAAUCUUUGUGUCAACUCACCACCACUGCAUCCAAGGCAAGUUAAGUCGAAAAAAGAGGAAUUAUUACUCACAGAAGCUUUGCUGAGUAAAUAAACUCUCAUGCAACGAGAAUAAUACUUUUUGCUACCCCAGUUAAUAAUGCAAUGAUACGUAGAAUAACUUUUUCACGUAUCAUCGUAUUAUUAACCGAAUAGCAAAACAGUGUUAUCCCCAUUCUCCAUUAUAUGUAAGGUUUUUUUCCUGAGCACAACAACUAGCUAGCCACUUGCCACAAAGAACUCAGAUAGAGAGAGAGAGAGAGAGAGAGAGUUUAAAAAGGAAAAAAAAAGUGUUUAUUUAUUAUAAUUAUGGUUAAUUUCAAUUCAAUGAUGAAUGUCUGAGUGAGAGUGAGUUGAGUUGGGCAAACGAGGUUGGGUUGGGUUGGGGGUGGAGGUCUUCGCACGAUGCCCCAAGUCGGAAAACGACGGCAUCGGGCUUUGGUGGUGGUUUGCAGUCAACAAAAGUACUUGAGAAGUUAAGAAGUUGAGAGAGAGAGAGAGAGAGAGAGAGAGAGAGAGAGAGAGAAUCUGUGCUUCAAUAUUCUUCCCCCACUCGUCGGUUUUUAGCUUCCACCACAUCAAUUCCCACUCUUCACUCAUUUUUCUCUUAUUAUAAUAAUAAUAAUAAUCGAAAUCGAAAUUAAAAUCAAGUAUAUUGUAGGCAACAAAAUGAGCACAUAAACAUUACACUUCAUAAUAGUAAUGCCACAUUGCAUAACUUUUUUUUUUCUUCCAUUGAAAUCUCUUGUCUAUAACAUGACUUAUAUGGAGUGCUUUUAUCAUAUGAUUUUCACUUUUAUGCUUGGUAUAUGCACAAGGUGGAUGUGAAUGAUAUAUACAUGAUGAACCCAUUUUUAUGGGUGCAAAGGUUUUGUAUGAAAAGUAAGAACAAAAAAAUAUACAAGGUUAGAACCAAAGAAAUUCUAAAUACAUUCUAAUCCUUGACAUGCCGUAGACUAUUACAAGGAAAACUCAUACGUCUUAAUUUUUUAUUGGUACAAUUUUUAAUGGUAAAUAUUAAGUUAGUGAGUAACAAUUCAAAUUAUCAUAUGAAAAAUCUCACUUUACAUCCUAUUAAUUACAUCAGACUUAAUUUAGGUUCGAAUCAAAAUUCAACCAUCGACAAUUAUAAAUGAUUUGAUACUCAUUCUUUUAGAUGUGGAUAACAUGCAUCUAGCUUCCAAAUUUAUAUACACAUGAAAAAAAAUGAAAAAAAGAAAGGCUUAUUUUUUAAUAUAGAAAGAAGAUAUCCGAUAACAUAAUUAUGAAGAAAAAAACACACAAAGGGAUUUUUUUAUUAAGAAAAAUAGCAAGGAAAAAGGAUUUUUUAAACCCUAUGAAAAAGCAGGCACUGGCAGUGAGCCACGUUAGUGCAUACGCACAGAGGCACAAAACCCCUCGUCGUACGCUAUCUUUCUCCCCAUUGCUUCUUCCUUUUGCUCUCCCAAUGCAAAAACAACAAAAAUAAUUGCCAGAAAAAAACACACAAACACACACCUCCCAACCCAAACAUAUAUUCUCACACAACCAAACAACCCAACCCCCACACUCACAGACACAGCAUUUUUAAGCAAACAGAGGAGAGAGAGAGGAAAAACUCAGAAAAGCCCAAGCACAAGUCACAAACACUUGCCCAAGAACCUUUUUCUUUUUAACGCUCUCUCUCUCUCUCUCUAUCUCUCUCUCUCUCUCUCUCUCUCUCUCUCCCCCUCCCUCGGUCUCUGCUCACAAAGACCCCCGAUUCUCUCUUUUUCUUUUUCAUUUUCUUUUCUCUUUUCUGAAAAUCGUGCUCUCUUUUUAUGCUCUUUACACAAACACAAUCACACUCUGUCUCCAGCUAGCAAAUAAGCUUUGCAGAGUGGUAUGGCUAUGGGGAUGAAAUGGCUGUACUGAUAAUGGCUCAGCAAGGCGUGCCCAACAAUGCCACUACUAACAACAGUAGCCAGCAGCAGAAACAGAAGCAAGAAGAGCAGCUAUUGAAGCCCAUCUUUCAUGACUUUCUGGGCAUGAAGCCUGGUGAUUCCCCUGUUGUUUUGGCCCCCAAAGCCUCUGAUUGUAGGCUCUCUGAGGUCUCACCCUCAGCUUCUGCUUCACUUGGGGCUUCUUCGGGUGGUGGCCGUGGGCCCAUCUCUACCACCUCUGAUCUGGGUUCUGGUCAGUCACUCCCCAUUUGUUAAAAAACUGUUUCUUUUUCCCCCCAGUGAUUUAUUUUUUUGUUCAUAUAUGUAAAAGAAAAAAAACCCAGACCUUAUCUCAUUUUGUUUUCCUUAAAUAUGGUUGCUUUUAUAUGUUUAUUUAAUCAGCUUAAAAAGUUUUUACCUUUACUAAUUUUUAUUUUUGGAGGAGGGGAGGGAGGGGGCUCUUUUGUUUCGGAUGGCUUUGUUAUAUUCAUGGGGGGUUAGGAACUUUAUCGUGUGAGUGAGUGAGUGAGUGAGUAAUGAGUGUGGACAUGCAAAAUAAGAAAGAUGGGGGUUGGUUUCUAACAUGGAUUAGUUAGUGAAGUCAGUAAGGAGUUUGGUUGCUGUUGUGGGUUUUUCUUUUCCCUCUAUGCUUUUGAUUUGUUAAGUCUUCUUUUUAAGGAUAGGUUGAAUCAAGGGCAAGCUGUUCACUUACUUUUCCUCUUCCCUUUUGGGCUCUCUUUAUCUUUUGUAAGCAUGUUGCCGGAGCAUUUGGAAUUAGGUUUGCGAAAAAUGAUGCUUAAAUGUUUUUAUCCAUGUAUUGUCAUUUUGCAAUGUGGUGGGUUUUUGUUUUUGUUUUUGGUGUUACCAAUUGAGCAAUGGAGAAAGUUGAGAGUGCUUGUCAAAAAUUUAUCAUUACAAAUAAAGUGAGACUUAAUUAAGUGUAAGCACCUCAUUCUGAUGAACUUUUUUUUUUUCAUGACAUGUUUCUGUUAUAUUGUUAGCCUUUUUUGUCCGUGUAUGAACAUUUACUACCAAUUUUGAAGCUUAUCUGUUACGAUUGUAUUACUGAAAUUUCGACACCUGAAGUGCUUAUUCCUUCUGAUUUAAGAUUCUGUAUAUUUACAUUUGAGUUUGAUUCAUUGUCUUGUUCCAUUAAUUUUGUAGAAAGACAAGCUGGAAAUCAUCUUGAGGGUGUUCCAUUCUAUGGCCCGAGGAGUGAUAUUUCUGGGCCUGAGAUAAGUAACAGGUUACUAGGAAGUAAGAGGAGUAAUUCGGACUCCACUUUUAAGGGCUCAUCCAGAGAUGGGGUCCCUCAUACCGGUCCUGACUCCCUUGAGAGCUUGCAUUUGAUGAAGGUAUGAGAUUGACAUCAUGCAAUAUUCUUAUUCUAUUCUUGCAUAUGGGAAAAAGCCCCAUCUAUGGUUUCUUCAUCUGAUGCUUUUUAGUUAUCCUGAAAUUCAGAUGCUUCGAAAUGGAACAGGGGGAGAGCGACCUAGAAGGUCCAAUGACGAUGAAGCAGUCUUUGCUACACAGCCGCUGAGGCCAACUUCUGCCUCACAUAUUUUUCAGCCUCCACUUGGUGGUAGAGUUGAUACCAAUAUUUCCAAAUGGGACAGAUCUACUCCCAUGAAUCUGGGUGCUGCAGUACAGUACCCUCCACGAGGAGGUCAUUUCGUACCCUUUGUGCAUCAAUUACCUUCAAACAGAUUUAGGGAUGCCAAUGCCAGUCCAGCUAAUAUCUCUCAAUCAGCUGCUGAUGAGGGAUCUAGAACUGGAAUCAAAGGCCCGGGAAUUUUGAGUUCCAUUAAUGCCAGCAGUAGUGCUCCUGAAAGAAACUCUUCUGGGGUGCUGCCUAGUGGCAGCAGGCAGAAAUCUGGGACUAAUAUUUUAGAGCCAGAACCUUCUACUCCAAGGUAAACAUAAUUAUGCAAUAUAGAGGACAUUCUCCUCUGUUGCAUUUGUUUGCGUUCAUUGAAGUAAAAGGACAAUUGAUGCCAUAUCUUUUUUCUGUUGUCAUGGCAGUCGACAUGGAUUUACGUCUGCUGGUCGGCAGAUGACCAUAUUCUAUGGCGGUCAAGCUCACGUCUUUGAUGAUGUCCAUCCAAACAAGGUUUGCUUUCUUACUGUUUGAUUCUAGUAGAGACAGCUCCCUUGGUUAAUGAGUUUAUAUGCAUUGACAGAAAAUAUAAGUGAAGAUUAUCUGUAAAGAAUAUAUACCAUUGAUAUCAACAUUGUCUAACUCAUUUAAUUGUUGCAUACUGAUAAACAAACUUGGUACUGUCUGUAGAAUUUCAGAAUUAGUGUGAUCGGAUCUUAACUUAUAGGUUUAGAGAAUGCGAUUUUUGCCUUGUAAGUUGUUUUCUAGCCAUUACACUUUCUUGAUAUUAUCUUAAGCUUAACUUUUUAGAUGUCCAUAUUUAGUUGUUAGUAAAUAAAAGAGCGGAUUUUAGUUUAUUUAGGAUUCCUAGCUAGGAGAAGCAAGGCACUGUUUGAAGAUUUUUGGGAGUUGAUUGUUCACCUUUUUUUAGGAACAUUCCAAUUUUUUUUUUUUAUAAUUAUUUUUAAUUCCUGAAAAAAAGAAGAUGGGGAAGUUGCUUUCUCUGUCAGUUAGUUGCGAGGGAAUGACAAGUUAAUAACUAGAAGUCCCUAAAAUUGGCGUGAAGAGGAUUUUCAAGGCUAUAAAAGACAACAAUUUAUCUGCUCUUUGGCUCUGAGCCGGUGGUGUUGUGAGUAUUUCUUUCGCAUUGGUGCUUGUUUCUGCUGUUGUUGUUGUUGUUGUCAGUUUUGCUACUUCUAUAAUUCUUGGGUGUUGGUUGGAUUAAUGGUCCUUAUGUUGAGUGAUGUGGAAAGUCAAACAAUCGUUGCUUAUAUUGUUGUUGGCAAUACAAGUGUGACAUGGUUUUAAAUUCCCUGUUAUUAUGUUAGACACGUAACACUUGCUGGUUAAGUUAUGUACACUUAAUUUGAAGGAAAUUAUGAGGUAGGUAGGUAGGUGUAACAAAGAAUUAGUAUAUCAUAGUGAAUCUCCUAUAAAAAUUCCUGUUUGGUGUGAGGAACUUCAUUUGUACAUCAUUUUCAUUUUGUGCGGGGAGGUUCUUCAGUUUCUGUAUACUCAUUCUGGUAGUGGGCAGCUGGUAUUUUUCACUUGAAAUAUGCAGCAGUGGUUUUCUUGUACAGAUAAAUUAUGAAGUCCUAUUGGCUUCCAUUUUACAUUGUGAGGUGUUAAGUGUUUCCCCUUUAAUUGUCUUUUGUGGGGAUCCAUAUGUGAGAUAUUAAGAAAUAUUAAGAAAAGGGAGGGAUUGUUCUACGUUGGUCUGACUGAAGACUCAUAGGCUUAUUGGGGAUGUUCAACAUUGGUUUGACUGAAGAUUCAUAGGCUUAAGCCUUCUGAAGUCUAGCGGUGUUCAACUCACGUUAUCUAGUCUCUCAUCUACUCAUGUAUGCCACAUCAAGCCAUGGGUGAUGUAGUCUCCCUAGACUUUGUCAUCCUAUUAGAACUGUCGUCUACUAAUCCUUAAAGAGGAAAAUAAUAUGGACUUAAAUUUGUUCUUAUAGAGGUAAAUUGAGAAUCAUGAAUGUUUCUUUGUGGUUGAUGUUUGGAGAAAAGGACUUAACACAUUGCACCCUCUCUCUUUAUUUUCCUCGCGUAGUUUUCCACAUUUCUUCACCAAUCUUGUCUAUCAGCAACAAAGUAUGAAUUCAAACAUGUUUUCCCUCUCCCGGCUGUUAACUACAUAUACAUAACAUUUUUGUGACCACUGUACUUUUUCAGGCUGACGUUAUAAUGGCCUUAGCUGGAUCAAAUGGAGGAUCUUGGUCGACAACAUACUCACUAAAACCUACUACGAGGCCGGGCAGUGAAAAUCACAUGCCUAGUGGAGAGGUUGAAGCUGGUACUGCAAGUAACAUAGCAUUGUUGCGAGAAUACCGUGGUAGGUUAUGCAUUCCUGGAAAUUCUAGUCAAGCAGUGGGUUUUGCUGAUCGAGUAUUGACACCGGCAGGUGAUCUUCUAACUUAAUCUUCUGGUGUGUAUUGUGAUAGUUUUCAUUAUAUCUAGGGAUGUUUACACAUAGAGAUCGGUGAGAACAAUUCCCCACAUCCCAGGUUUAAGGAUAGGUAUUCAUGACAUGACCCACAAACAUGAUAGUCGAAUUUGGUUCAGAUAAAUUAAUCAAAGUAAAUGUGUUAUUUGAUAAUCAAAAUUUCACUGAUUGUGUGUUGUAUGAUUAUUUGUUUUGUUAUUUACUGCUGGAUACUUGGUUGUAGGUGGCCAUCAAGGCAGCAAUUUAGCCAAAGAUACGAGAAACACAAUUCAAGCAGCAGAACCCAGUUCUAAAGAGAAAAAUGAUCCUUGAUGUUACAGAGUUUUCAUGUUUUGAAUCUAGGAUACAGUAAACCUUUCACCCUUGUAGUUUGAUUGGUAUUUCAAUUUGGUCUCAACUUUUCCAAUUGAACAACAUUAAUCCUAAAAUUUUGAAUUUGUGUUGAAGCCUUCGGUUGAGUGACACCCGCCACCUAUGCCACCGAUGCCGGUGAUAACAGAGCUUCUCCCCUCGACCAAGAACUUGACUUCGUUGUCCCUGUGACAUGGUUAAAUUAAUUGUUGCAAGUGAAGCCCGCGAAUUUCCCUCCAUUAGAAUGCUCAGAUUGAAAGUGAUUUUGAUUGGCAAAGAGCAAGUAUUCUAAAAAUUCUAAACCCAAACUAAGUCAACUUGGUUUCAUGCAAUGCAGGAAACAAAAUCUACCAAAACAUCAUUUUCAGAUUUUAGCUCGAUUGUAAUGACUAAAGGCAGAGGUAAGCUUGGGAAUGCUUAAGCACAUGCACAUGCAAUGUCUUAAGAUUUUGAGGGUUCUGUGUGAAAUUUAAAUGAGACCCUCACAUAAUUUAAUACGAAAAUAGUAAAAAUAAUAAUUUUCCCUAACUUAAAUGUCAUAAAACAAUUUUUUUUUUAUAUAACUAAAAUUCAUCAUCAACAAAAGCACAAAUUUUGAGUGAUCUUUAUGAAUUUAGGAAUUAGGAUAUUUAUGUUUUGGUGUUGAAAUUCUUGAAUUUGAAAUAAAAACAAAAAUUGUCAAAGGAUUGAACGAAAGAGCCAAAGAGAAAUUGAUGAAUGAUAAUAAUUAAUUUUUUUUUUUUUCCUUUUGGUGUUGAUUGGAGGAGAAAGCGUGAGGGUGUAUAUAUAUUGAUGGUGAAGAGAAAUGCAUUUGAAACCAAACCAGCCAAACACACACUUGUGUCAAUGUGCUGCGUGCAAGAAUAUAUAUAAAAUAUUUAUAAUAUUAACUAUAAAAGAUAUAAAGUUAAACAUUUUUGGUGGCCUUCAAAAAUUAAAGGCUCUGUGCGGUAGCGUCACUUGCUCUAUCCAAGUCCGCCCUGCUUUUUAAGCAUAAAGAAUCCAUUUUAGUGCUUACGUUAAAAGAUCUCAAGAAGCACUUUCAGAUGGUAUUUUUGAAUGAGAUCUUCUAUGCACCGCCAAAAAUAUCAAAAGCAAACCUUAACAGGUGCUAAACCUGAACCUCUUCAUUUUUGGUGAUUACUAAUUAGGUUCAAACUUCAAUUUUGAUUUGGCCCUUUUUUAUUUUUCCAUGAUAUUCUGAUUGGGUCCUCAAUAGUUAGCCUAAUGGGCCUUUCUGACCCAAUAAGCAAAUAUCGGCUGCAUCUCUUUCUUAGCUAACUGGGUUACACACAACUCAGAACUUAGAAGAGGCCCACACUGCAUUGUGAUCCUUGCAGCUAGAGUCUUUUUUUUCUUGGGUAACUGUUACGAUUUUUCUUUUUUAUGUAUGAACUAUGAACUCACUUUUUUCGUCCAAUCACUUUUGGGGUGGAAAUUAUUAUUUUAUUUUAGUUUUGCAAAAGUUAGGUAGGAAAAAGGGAAGGGGGAGGGUGGUUUUCCACUAGGCUAGACUCAGUUGGCUUUUAGUAUGGACAACUUUUUACAAUAUCUGGUGAUGAUAAUCAGUGGCGUAUUUAGGAAUUUUCUUUUUUAGGGACAAUAAACCACUAUUGCAAAGCCACUAAUAAUGAAGAUCAAUCAACUCUUAAAUGUAAGAUAAAAAAACACACACACACAAUCAUAUAAACAUAUUCAUGCAUAAAUUAGAAACACAACACAUUCCACUUAUUUCCUCUACUAACGGCACAAACAGAAAAAUGAGAAGAGUAAGUCUAAAGAACAAGAAGAAUAACAUAAGUAACGGAGUAGAGUAGGUUGCCCACUUACCUCCCGCCUUAAUCUUCUUUGAGGCAUUUUAUCAGACAACUUGCCCUUAUUAAAUACAAAACUUCAUAAAAAAAAUUGACACCUUGAUAGAUAAAUAAUAUAAUUGAGUGAGGAGAAUUACCCUUAAUGGAUCCGCCGAUAAUGAUAAUAUGGACCAUAAAGAACUUUUUGUCAAUAAUGCAUUUUCAUAUUUUGAAGUUUCUUAGUAAUUGCAUUGCCUCAUUGGAGUCCAAAAAGUCAUAUUGGACUCUUAAAAAGUACAAUUUCUCCAUUAUAUUAUUAUACAUCCGGAUUUUGUAUAAUCCAUUGUUAUGAUAUUUUUACAUGUAAUGAACAUAUACAUGAAUCAUGAUGGGUCGAGGGAUCUGCCGUCCAUAUGUACUAACAAAAUUCAAAUGAAUCGGCUGGCAGCAAUACAAUGAGGUUGGACUUUGUAGUUAAGAGAGAGAAAAGGGUCGUUGAAAAGUGUGGAUGCAUAGAUAUUGUCCAUAAGUUAAUGAUACAAUCCCUUGAAAUCCAACUUGAUUAUAUAAAGUAAUCUCUCUGCUAAUCAUUUGCCUCUUGACUUGAGGUAUGAACAAUUUGAUUGUUUUGUUUUUGUGGUGAAGUUGGAAUUAAUAGGACCGAUUUGGCCAUUUGCAUAGCUCCAAAGGGCCACCCACGACUGCACGUUUGGUUGACUCAUUACAUAAAAUUUUAGAGUUAACGUAAAUGUCAAUCGUCUUACUCCUCAAGGGUCAAGAGGCAGCCAGAUUUCCCUCGUCGGUCAUUAAACACACAACAUGUAGCACACAACUUCCAUGCUCCUACUAACUAAGCUACUACCCAGUGUUAAUUACAUCUUAAUUUGUUUCAAUACCACAACAUGAAGAUACUGACUCCGUGAUUGAGGCUUGUAAAGUCUCUUAUCCUAAAGAUCAAUUUUGUAUUAAACCAUUGAAAACUAUUAAUAAUAUACAUAGGAUUUAUUUGAACAAAAAAUGAAAAUUGACAUGAAGAUACAAUAUCUCUAUUGAUGCUUCGCUACCAAAAAAAACUAAAGGCUCGUUUGAGAGUGAUUCUUGAUAGACCAUAAUUACUUCUAGAGAGAAUCACUUUUCAUGUGCUUUUCUAUAUAAUCACUUUAAGUGAUUUUAAGUGAUUAUGAGCAUAAAUACCUCAUAUGUGCUUCUUCAUAAAAUCACUUAAAACCACUUGAAGUGAUUCUCCAUAGAAAUGAUUUUUGACAUAUUCAGAAUCACUCCUAAACGAACCCUAAGUGCCCGUUUGGUAUUGCUUAUUUGAGAUGAUAAGUGAUUUUUUAAAAAAUUUAAAAAACUAAGACCGUUUGGUAAACUAUGAGAAAAUCACUUAUUGUUAAAAAUUACUGUUUAAAAAAACUAUUAAAAAAAAAAAAAAACUAAUAAAGUACUUUCAUUUUCUGAAGAGCCAGUGUGAUUUUCGAGCAGCCAAUUGAAAAAGGUGGUUCAAUUUCAAAAACCUGCAGUUUUUGUUAUUUGUUCAGACACCACGUUCCAUGAGAGUUGCAUCAUUUCCAACUUUUUCUCUCCGUCGACAGCAACCUGAACCUUCUCUUUCUUUCUUUUUUCUUUUUUUUUAUCCCUUUAUUUAUUUAUUUAUUUAUUACCAAACGAUAAGAGAGAUUCUCUCAUUACAUGUAAAUCCGCACCGUUUUGAAAUUCUAGCAACACGACACCAAUUGCUUUUUUAAUCCAACAAAAAUAGACAAAUAUUAUUAUAUAUAUAUAUAUAGUCUUGAUCUCUUGGACUACAGGAGUCCAAGAGAUUGUGGUCGUGUAUAGUCUUGAUCUCUUGGACUACAGGAGUCCAAGAGAUUGUGGUCACUCACCGUUGAAUGUAAAUUCAACGGUUCACUCACUCUUGCACUCCUUUUAAGAAACUUUUUUGAACCAUUGGAUUAAUAUCCAACAGUGGGUGACUACAAUCUCUUGGAUUCCUGUGGUCCAAGAGAUCGGGACUGUAUAUAUAUAUAUAUAUAUUAUAUAUACAUAUAUUACCCAAAUAUCUUCUGAAACUUCCGUCAAAUCUUACUUUGCCCCAUCAAAUUUAAAAUGACCUACUUUCAUCCAUUGAUCGAAGUUUGGUGACCUACUUUACUCAUUACCAACAACUCCAUCUAAAACUCUAUUAACUUUCAUGACAUAAUAAGGGUGUUUUUGUAAUUUCAUACAUAUGGAUUAUUACUCAUCAAUUAAGUGGGUGAUGUGACAAGUAGAGUCUAGCUCCACAUAAAUAAAAAUAUAAUUAAAUAUUAUAAUAAUUAAAAUGGACUUAUAAUUUUACAUUUCCAAAAUACCGGCAUGGAGAAUAUGAACAGAAAUUUACCCACAUGCUUAAUUUCAUGGGUUUUAGUCAUUCGAUUUUCAAUGCCUAACGUUCUUCCAAUCAAAAUUCACCACUUGGAUUUUUGGUACAGAUCAGAAGAGGGUACAAAAGUACUUUAAAAUGUUACGACUUACUUGAAGCAUGCCCAUCCCAUGGAAUGCAUGUCCCUUCUUGAGUUUGAAUUUUCUAUUCAUAUUUUUCUGUUCAUGUUAACUUAAACUAAUAUUAAACAUUGUAUCUUCAAUAAUUUUUUUUUUAUUAAAAUUUUUUAGCCGAACGUGGGCAUAAAUCCUCAACUAAUUUUUUGUGAGUUAAAAAUUCCUCAAUUAGUUAAGCACCACACUAUUCUACUAUAGUGUUGCAAUUUGGAUCAUAUUUAUUGAUCACAUUACGCCAUCUUUAGUCAUAGGACUAAAUAUAGUCCAGGGUUAUAAAUUUAGCCCUAUAAAAUAUUAAUUUUUUAAAGAAUAGUGUAGGAUUAAAUUUGUCUGUUCCACAAUCAUGCAGAGCUAUAUUUUAGGGUCAUUCAUAUUUUAUUAUUUUGAGAAAAACUAUGGUACAAUACUCAUACAUUCUACAACUAUGUAUUGUUUAAUUAUAUUAAACUACUAUUUAGAGACAAUAUUUCAUAUAUGACACGUGUACGUUGAUAAGCAUUUGAAAAGAUUUCUGAUAAGAUUUUGUGUCCACGUGGCACGUCUUAUCUUGAAAGAAUCUUAAUAAUUUUUUGGAUAUGAGUUUCGAGUGACAUGUGUCGGUCUAGGAGCAACUAUCCAGAUUUCUGAUUAGAUUUUUGUCUAUGUGACACCUCUUAUCUUCAUCUUCAAAUGUCAAUAAAUGGAGUGUUUUCAAUUCAAUAUCUUACAACUUCAUCUCGUUCCUUUGUAAAUGGAAGGAUUGAUGAUGCCUCUGUGUAUUUUUGUGAGAUGCGUUCCCAAAGCCCAGUGCUUUUUUGGUUAGUACCCACAACACUAUCUUCGAAGACUUUUAUGAAAGCCUUGCAAAGAUGUUCAUCUUCCACUCGUGACCAAUUUCGUCCCUUCAAGUCCGGGACAUUUUUCAAACAAUAUGAAUAAUAAAAUAAGUAAAGAAAAUAAAUUUGUAGGAAAUGUUUAGAUGAAAUGAGUGUGAAAAAUAUUUGACAAAAAGAAAGAGUGUGGAAAGUUGUGAAUGUAAUAGAAUUUAUAAGAAAUGAGUGAGAAAUUUUUUGAAGAAAUUUUGAGGUAUUUAUCGACAUAUUUUAGGGUUUAAAUUUUUUAUAAAAAAUAAUAAUAAAGCCAACAAAGACAAUUUAUAAAAUAAAAUAUAAAAAAAAGGUCUGCGUUUCAAUGGUUCUAACCUCCAAUGGUCAUAACCAAUUUUUUAUAUAUUUAAAAAAAAAGAAAGAAACGAAUUUAAAACAUUUAAAAAGAUUUUAAAUUAAAACAAAGGUAACUUUUCAAUUAAUGGUUCUGACCUCCAAUAGUCAGAAAUCAAUUAUAUAAAAUGAAACAUUUAAAAAGGUUAUUAAAAAAAAAAAACCUGACAGCUAGAUGACGUCAGCACACCAUUAAUAUUGGUUGUUAGAUCUGCAGUUGUAUGAGAUGUUUCGUGCUCUUGCCCACUCAUGAUAUUUUUUCUUCUUGGAAAACACAUGCGCUGGGCCCAUAAAAAAUUUGGUUUAGGUCAAAGUUGGACUACAAGUGGCGUGAUUGGAGGGUUAAAGGGCCAAAUGUGGCCCUCCAAAUUUGGCCAAAUUUUUUUUUAGCUCAUGACGGGAGAUGAGUUUUGCAUUAUUUUAGGGCUAUAUUUGGCCUAUGGCCCAUAACUGGAGGUGGCCUUACGUAUUGACCAUCUCUCUAAACCCUAAACCCUCUAAUAUAGGUGAAUUCCGCAUACAGUUAUAGAACCUAUCUAUAUUAAAUGGAUAAUGAGUAAUGUGGUAAAUAAAUGUGGUACAUAUAACUUUAUUUUUUACUAUUGAUAUAUAAAACACAUGCAUAUAUCAAAGCCACAGUUUUAACUUAUUCUAGAUAAACUAUAUUUUUUUUAGUGGGGUAGGGGGACUAGCUGGGAUGGUAGUUAUCUCUACCUAAUGAAACGAAUGCGUUUUGGCUCCUAGACAUGUAUAAAAACAUGUAGACCCGGUUCUUGUGGACAAGGCAUGAUCAUUUUGUUCAGAAAAGCAGAAAGGAAAAGGAUGUCUUCCUGAUCAUGGGACAACGAGACUGUUUUUUCCAAGUUUAAGAAGAUGCCAUUGUUUGUUUCGUCCCAUUCAACUAUAUAUAUUAUCCUACAAAUAAUACCUCCAAAUCCACGCAGAAAGACACACUUGUGUCCAAACAGCCGCCCUAUCCCUACUGUUCAUCAUUUGGACCCAAUACACUUUCAAUCAACAUUUUUAUUCUUAUACUAUUAAUGUCGACGCAUAGUCUUAAAACGUAUACCAUUUAGUAUUUUAAUAAAAUAUUUAACUGUUAAUACGACAAAAAUAUAAAAUAUUUAGGUAAUUAAAUGAUAUGUAUUUAUCUUUUGGACAUAUAUCGAAUUUGAUCCGUAGGUAAUAUUUGUAUGAAACGAGUAAAACACAUUACACAUACACCAUAUUCCUAAGAUAUACAUUUCCGAUUCGUAUUUUAAUAAAAUAUUUAACCGUUAAAAAAAUUGAAAACAAAGACAUGUAUAUAUAUUUUGAAUGUCGUAUUGACUAUAAAGAAUUCUACGUAUAUAUAUGAACUCUUAUAUGUACAUACAUAUACGUAGACAUGUGUGCAUAUAUAUGGAAAAUAUUUGUCUUCUUUCCUGAUACUUUCUUGCCAAUCACAGUUUGAUAUGUGUGCAUAUAUUUUUGUUUUUGUUUUUUGUUUUUAAUUUUGGAUGGAUUAUUUUUACAUAUGGGUGAAACUAAGAAGUAGAAAAUAUUCAUAUAAUAUUAGAUUCUAUAUAUAGGGUCGUAACCCCGAUAAAUAUCUCUCUCUCUCUGAUCUCCAUGUCUAUAUAUACAUUCCAAUCAACACAGGCAAACAACCAAUCUCAUUGAGCUCUGAUCUUUUCUCACUCUUACGUUGUUGUUGUUUCUCUCCUAAGACAGUUGCUAAUGGGUGCUCUCGCAGAAGCCUAUAAACACAGCCUCCUCGACAAGCAACCUAUCCCCCUUGACUAUGGCUCUGUCCGAACAUUGCCUGAGUCCCAUAUAUGGCUUGAUCAGUCCGACGAGUCUCCAUAUGUGGCCCACUCCACCGGCCCGAUAUCGCCGCCAGUUAUCGACCUCAUGGAUCCGGAUGCUCCGAGGCUCAUAAUCCAGGCAUGUGAGACAUGGGGUGUCUUUCAACUGAUAGGCCAUGGCAUUCCCACUAAACUUAUGGAGGAUGUGGAGUCUGAGGCUGAAAAAUUGUUUGGUCUACCAGUUGACCAAAAAUUGAAGGCCUUACGAUCUCCAGGUGGGGGUGCAGGAUACGGUCUCCCUCAUAUAUCGCCAUUUUUUAACAAGCAUAUGUGGCAUGAAGGGUUUACUAUCAUGGGGUCUCCGAUCUAUCAUACUAGGCAACUUUGGCCCCAGGCCUAUCAAGGGUUUUGGUAAGUCCUCCAUGCAUUUCCAUGACGUAGACAAAAUGAAAAUUUUUUCCGAUUAAAGUUUCUAUAUAUAUAUAUAUAUAUGUUAUGCUUUUCGUUUGGGAUUUGUUAGGGUAAAAGUUUGCUUUUCGGCCUCGUCUGAAAUUUGUAGUAAUGUAUAUGUCUUGAUGACUAUUUGGUGAACUUAUUAAAUUGAAUAACAAUACAAUAAAGUAUCUUACAAGUCUCACCUUACAAGUCUCGUAUCUUAGAGAGACGAGAUUUAUAAGAACUGACUUGUACUUAAUUCCAAUCCAGUUCAAGUUGAGUCACCAAAUGAAGCCUUUAAGCCUUGAAGUUUAAGGUUAUGCAUGUUUUCAUUUUUUGUAGUGAGACAAUGGUUGAUUAUCAGAACCAAUUGAAGGCAUUAACCGAGCAGCUAAUCCGCAUUAUCUUCAAAUCCUUGAACAUUAAUUCUGAAGAAGUAGAUUGGCUUAAGGACUCUCAAGGAUCAAGUACUGCUUUGCAGUUAAACUCUUACCCGGCAUGCCCCGACCCAACUCGAGCCAUGGGCCUAGCGCCCCACACAGACACAUCCCUAAUAACCAUUCUCCAAUCCAAAACCAGUGGCCUCCAAGUCUUCAAAGAGGGAGCCGGGUGGAUCCUGGUGCAACCCAUACCCGGUGCCCUCAUAGUUAACGUUGGUGACUUUCUCCACAUCCUCUCCAACGGGGUGUUUACAACUGUCCGUCAUCGUGUGGUGGUCACCCAUAUUCAACGGUUCUCCGCAGCCCAUUUCUAUGCUCCUCCAGGUGAUGUUAUAGUCUCUCCAGUGAUGUCCAAGGAUUUUGGUGGAGUGCCAAGGUACCAUUCUGUAUCAGUGAAAGGGUAUGUCGAGAGCAAGGGCAAGCAUUUUGAAAAGGCGCUUUCUUUAAUUAAAAAAUAAAUGAAAUUUUUACUUAUUUAUUUUAUGGUGAGUCUAGGAUAAAAUAGUUAGGUCAAUUUUUUUUUUUUAUAAUUAACCCUCCUUGGCCUAUCAGAAAUAAUCUAUAUAAAAAGACCGACUCGUUAUCGUGUUGCCGUAAUCAACUAACCUAAUUCAAUUCAAUUUUACAAGUUUGAAUUUUACCAAGAAGAAUUAUUAAACAAUAUCGUUAGCAAAGAUAUCGUGCACAUGCAUUUCUUUCUUUUAAGUUCUAAAAGAUUUUUGCAUUUUUGAUUGGACCGUAUGCAAUAAAAGUAAUAAGAAGAAGAGAGAUGUUAUUUUGGUUUUAUCACCAUUUAGUGUAUUGAUAAACUAAUUUUAUUAGUAUCACGCUUGGCAAAGGUCCAAAAGACAAGUCGGCUACCUUUGGCCAUCAAGCUAUGAAUGAUUACAGUCUAUACACAUGACGGGUCAAUCAAUAACGUAUCAAAAAAAAUAAAAAAAAUGCUUUGACGGGCCAAUCAUAUGAUGACACGUUAUUAUUACCUCCUUGUUUAUCCUACAAUUGUGCAGGUCUGAUUUGUUGUUUUUAUUUUAUUUGUUGUUGUGUAGGUUGAAUAUAAUAAGAUAAGAUAUGUGCAAAUUUUCUUGUUGGGGCAGAAGUUGCGUACUUAGUUGCAACUAUAAUCGCAUCAAGUCUUGUCCACAUAAUAUGUCCAAGGGAAGGCCUCAUUGAAUAAGCAGAAAUCAAUCUCGUUUUAAUUACUAAUGAUCAUCAAAUGCAUCGUCUUAAUACACGCGUUUGGUGAUACUCGGUUACAAAGUCUUAAGUUCAAAUUUCAUCUAUGACCGGUAGUUGAAUAAAAAAACACGUAUUUAACGUGUAAAGUAGUCGGUAGUAUCCAAUUUGCCAAUGUCCACUUACAUUUGUCUUCUUCAAAAGGUUCAUUGCCGUCCACCAUGGGGAUCCAAAAGAGGGUACAAUGAUAGACGACUUGAGAAAUUCACUGUCCACUUGGCUAUGUUUGUAUCAUGUUUUCUCUGGGUUUCUUUAAUGAGAUUAGACUUGGACCAAAAAAUAACUGUCCAAUUGGCUGCUAUGACUGUAUGAGCACAUAUACAACCACAGCAAGAACAAAACUGACCUGCUAGAUACUGUACGGUUUAUGUUUUUGUUUUUCUGUGGCUGUGACGAACGUUUGAAUGAAUCAAAGGCACAAUUAAGGCACGACGCAAAUAAUUAAUUACAAUUACAUUGCUGACUGUGUUCUAAUCAGAGAGGAGUUGGCAGUGGCUAAGAGUAGAUCGAUAGAAACAAAAAUGUCAUUGUUUGCUUUAUUGUCUUAUUUUAUUUUAUUUUUUGGGGUCAAAAGUUUGCUUCAUUGUCCUUAUGUGAAAAAGAGAUGGGAACAACUUUAUGUUGUAUCAAAGUCUGACUUGGAGGAACAAGAUCUUCCAGAGAAUUAAGACAUCGCUCACAUCAUCUCGUAUGGAAAAAUUAGUUCAAGUUCUCAAUCAAGCUAAUGAAGCUGAUCUUUCUAUUCACAUGCCACGCCUUCAUUUCAAUUGAAUAAGUAAGCAAUCGACGGAUGAGCGAUGGCAUGAAGUUGGCUGAAGAACUUAACUUAGUUUAGGUUUAUAAGGAGUUGGGCUACAUUCGCUUAUUGUCAAUUGGUUUUGGGGUGGAACUUCAAAUUUCUUCAUGGUAUCAGAGUAAGGUUGCACAUGUUGGGUCCAACGGUCAUACGUGUUCCCACGUCACACAACAUGUGUUGUCCACAUGUUAGGUUUGAAAGUUCGACAUACAUGCGGAGGCGUGUUAAGAGUAUUUGUCUCACAUUGAAAAGUUAAAGGACCUAACUUGAAUUUAUAAGGAGUUGGACUACAUCUCCCCAUUGCCAAUUCGUUUUGGGGUGAAACCUCAGCUUCCUUCAAACUUCACAUGUUGCUUAGAUGUUCUAAGCGGCACUUCUUUGGAGCACCUCAUUUUUUUUUUAAUACAAACGAUAGGAGAUGAAUCACACAGAAAGGGAUGGAAAAACAGUUGAUCAUGGUUUUAUAACAUUAGACAUUCUCUUAAAGUAGCACUUCCUAAAUAAUUAAUCAUUGAUACCAGAACGGAAGUUUUAACCGAGGACUUCGGUGUCGCAAAAUAUUAAUUAAAGUUAUCUCUCUACUCAUAAUUUGCCGCUUGACUUGAGCUUCACAUUUGGUAUGAAUAAUUGUUUUUGUUGUUGUUGUAAAUUUUGGAUUUGGACCGAUUUGGCCACUUGCAAAGCUCCAAAGGAUGGGCAACAGACACGACCUCCUCUACCUUCAUCAACACAUCAAUGGGCCACCCACCACUACACUUCAUGACUGUUUGUUUCAUGGAAUUUAAGAAUUAACGUAAAUGUCAAUCAUCUUCCUCCUCAAGGGCCAAGAGGCAGGCGGGCAGAAAGAUUUCUAGUCGGUAAUGUUUUUUUUUAUUUGAGAAGAAGUAAUAAUAAUUAUUGAUGAAACAAAAUAAAAUACAAAGAAGCUGUAGUGCCGAAUAUGAAUACAAUAUCUUGAGUAACCAAAUACAACAGUAUGUUGAUUUGAUCUUGAGAGAACUACACCUUAACCAAAAAACACUUAAAUCCCCUAUUCAGCGGCCAAAACUGUGAAGGUAAAAAAUCUCACAUUGGAAAGUUGAGAAAUAUAAUAAGGGUUUAUCUUGGACUACUCCCUUCAUUGCCAAUUGGUUUUGGGGUGGAAGCUCAACUUCAUUCAUGGUAUUAGAGCGAGUUAUCCCACGUGUGAAAGCCCACGGCCACACGUGCUCCACGUCACCCAAUAUGUGUUGUCCAUAUGUUAAGCUUGAAAAUUUGCCACACGUGCGAGAACGUUUGAGAAUGCGAAGGUAAAAAGUCCCACAUUGAAAAGUUGAGAAAUCUAACUUCAAGCCUCAACUGGUUUUGGAGUGGAACCUCAACUUGCUAAAAAAUUACAUGUACUCAGACUUACAAUAUGGAUUUACCGCGCAACGGCAGAAACAGUAAAUCCGUAUAGAAAGUCGACAACUAAAAUACAAAACACAGCAAAUUCUUAAAGAGUUCAUAAGAAUUAUUAAUAGAUUGAAACAAACAAAGAAACAUGAUCACCGCUCCACGUCAUCUCCGUCAAUCCAAGAUACUUAUAAUGCCAAAUCAACUAAAUCCUUAGAACCCCAACCACCUAUUCGUGCGUGCUUGUUAAAUGUUUGUUCUUUCAAAAUACAAUAAUCCUAAUAGAACGCAUGGAAGAUACUCUGCAGGUGGAAAAGCAAUUAAGGAGGAAGAGCCAAGUAUCCUUAUUUCCGAACAGCCAAUUAAGAUAGGUGGUUCAAUUUCAAAAGCUGCAAUGGUUUGUAAUUUGUACAGACACCACGUUUUUUUUUCUGGACGAAGUUCAGACACCACGUUCGUUAGCAAAGAGCAAAGAGUUGCAUCAUUUCCAACCCUUUUUCUCUACCGACAGCAACCUUCUGCAUUUGAAUCCACAGACCAGACCUCUUUUUUGGGUACAGAAAGGGAAAAGCCCAGAAAAAGAGUACACAGAAACUAGAUGAGACUUGCCUUUUUUUCCAAGUAACUGCGAGUAUUUUUUUUAAAAAUUACGCUUUUGUUCUUCCUGUUUCUCAUGUUUGGAUUUUAGAUAGUAUUAGUUGUUUUCAGUGCUAUCUUUUGUACACUCUUAUGUUAUUUAUUUUUUAAUAAAGCAUCUAUUUCAAGAAAAAAAAACCUACUUCCAAUCAAUAUUCUCCGCUUGGAUUUUUGUUACAGAUCAGAAUAGGGUACAAAACUAUUUUAAAAUGUUACGAUUUAUUUGAAGCCCGUGCUUGUCGUUUCUAGAGUUUGAAUUUUCUAUUCAUAUUUUUCUGUUGAUAUUUACUGAAACUAAAUAUUAAACAUUAAAUCUUCAUUUUUUUAAAUUUUUAGCCGGAUAUGGGCGCAAGUCCUCACCUAAUUGAGCACAACGUGUUAGUUAUUAGCAUGACAUCCAUUAUCCAUCCAUAUAUAAAGACAGAAGCCUCAAAUACUGAAACAUCCAAAAACCCUGAAAAUGUCCGUACUUAACAAAAAUAUUAGAAAAUCACAAUCUAAUAUACUGAGAGUAUAAUAGUAAAAAAUUAAUUUGCUAAACUAAUUUGAUAAAAACUAGUUUCUUUUUAUCGUUUUAUGUAUCUAUAUAUUUAACUAAUUUAAAAAAUAAGAAAAACAAAGAAGCCUAGUAACACACGUGUGCCAAGAGGCUAAUUGGUUAUAAUUCUACUAUAUUGAUAUAAAACAUGCAUGUAUCAAAGCCACAGUUUUAACUUAUUCUAGAUAUUGUGAAACGAAAAUGAGAAAGAAAUUAAGUACCCGUUUGGCAUUGCUUAUUUAAGGUGAUAAGUGAUUUUAAAAAAAAUUUGAGAAGCCCAACUCGUUUGGUAAACGGUGAGAAAAUCACUGAUUGUUAAAAAUUAUUGUGAGAGAAAACUACAAGGGAAAUCAGCUAAUGAGGUGCUUUCAUUUUCUGAUUAUGUAGGAAUCAGUUUCGAUGAGGCGCUGAGUUUAAUGAUUAUGCGACAAUCAUUUUCUGAUUAUGCGUAAAAUCAAUACCAACAACACUUUUAACAAAAAUUUUACCAAACGUCAAACUGCUUUCUCUCACAGCUAAUUUCUCUCACAGCAAAUCUGACAGUGAUUAUUUUCACAGCACAUCAAUGCCAAACUGGCCCUUACUCAGCUCUACUGUUCAUUAUUCGGUCCUUCUUCAAUCAAACUUUUAAUUCUUAUAUUAUUAAUCUCUACGCGUACUCUUAAAAUCAGUUAAUAUUUUAAUACGACAUUUAACCGUUAAUACCAUGAAAACAUAAAAUAAUGUAAGUAAAUGAUAUGUUUAUAUCUUUGGAAUUUCAUCCUGACAACUAAGAAACAUUACAUGUAUGCAGGAAUUCUCAUAUGUAUAGACAAAUCAAAUAUAGCAUUUAUUUGAAACGAGAAAAAACACCUCCAAAUCCACACUUAAGGAUGUGAUAUGUAUGCAUGAACUCUCACAAUACACACAUUCAUCGAAUGUAAUCCAUGGAUAACAUUCAUAUGAAACGAUCAAAACACAGUAUACAUAUAUCGAAAAUCUACUUAAGAUAUACAUUAUUAAUUAGCAUUUUAAUAAGACAUUUAUAACCGUUAAUACACCGAAAACAUAAGUACAUGACAAGAUAUAACUUAUAUGCAUGAACUCUCAUAUGUGCAUACAUUGAAUGUGAUUCAUGCAUAACAUUCAUAUGAAACGACAUUCUAUAUGGGUUGCUCAUAAUAUUCAUACACAUUUUGGCAGCAAAUAGAAAAAGAUAUAUACAAAUAUAUAGAUAUAUGCAUUUCUAUAUAAGAUUGUAUUCUAUAUAUAGGGUCGUACCUUUCCAUCUAGGGUCAAAACCCAAUACAAUCUUUCUCUUUGAUCUCCAUGUAUAUAACUAUAUAUAUAUAUACAUUCCAGUCAACACAGGCAAAACAACCAGUCUCUUUGAGUCUUGAUCUUUUCUCAGUUUUACGUUGCUGCUGUUUCUUUCUCCUAAGACAAUUACUAAUGGGUGCUCUCGCAGAAUCCUAUAAAGACACCCUUCUCGAACCGCAACACAUCCCCCUUGACUAUGGUUCUGUCCAUACAUUACCCGACUCCCAUGUAUGGCUUGAUGAGUCCGACGAGUCUCCAUCUGGGGUCCACUCCACUGGCCCGCCCGUUAUCGACCUCGCGGAUCCAGAUUCUGCGAGGCUCAUAAUCCAGGCAUGUGAGACAUGGGGUGUGUUUCAACUGAUAGGCCAUGGCAUUCCCACCAAGCUUAUGGAGGAUGUGCAGUCUGAGGCUGAAAAAUUGUUUGAUCUACCAGUUGACCAAAAGAUGAAGGCCUUAAGAUCUCCAGGGGGAAGCCAAUCAGGAUAUGGUCUCCCUCCUAUAUCGCCAUUUUUUGAAAAGCUUAUGUGGCACGAAGGUUAUCAUAUCAUGGGGUCUCCGAUCGAUCAUGCUAAGCUGCUUUGGCCCAAUGACUAUCAAGGGUUUUGGUAAGUCCUCCAUGCAUUUCCAUGCACGUAGACAAAAUGAAAAUUAUUCCAAUUAUAGUUUCUUCCAUAUAUGUAUAUUUCGUUUGGGAUUUGCGAGGGUAAUAGUUUACUUUUCGCCCUCUGGAAUUUGUACUAAUGCCUUGACCACAGUUUAGUGAACUUAUUAAAUUGCAUAACAGUUCAAUAUAGUGUUUUAUAGGUCUUAUUUAGAGAGGUGAAACUUAUAAGAACCAACUUUAACUUAUAAUUUUUAUGUAGUUCAAAUUGAACCACCAAAUAAAAUCUUCGCGGUUAUGUAUAUAUGUUUGUAUAGAAAUGAUUGCCUAUAUAUUUUAGUUCAACAAUGUAAUUAUUACACUUAAUUAAAUUAUGACUUCCACAAAUUUUUAUGAUUUUUUUUUUUGGCAGUGACACAAUGGUUCAUUAUCGGAGCCAAUUGAAGGCAUUAACCGAGCAGCUAAUCCGCAUUAUCUUCAAAUCCUUGAACAUUAAUCCAGAUGAAGUGGCUUGGCUUAAGGAAUCUCAAGGGUUAAGUAUUGGUCUGCAGUUAAACUGUUACCCGCCCUGCCCUGACCCAACCCGAGCCAUGGGCAUAGCACCCCACACAGACACAUCCCUAAUAACCGUUCUCCAGCAAUCCAAAGUCAGCGGCCUCCAAGUCUUCAAAGAGGGAGCCGGGUGGGUCCUGGUGCAACCCGUACCCGGUGCCAUCACAGUUAACCUUGGUGACUUUUUCCACAUCCUCUCCAACGGGGUGUUUACAACUGUCCGUCAUCGUGUUGUGGCCACCCGGAUCCGACGGCUCUCCUUUGCCUAUUUCUAUGCUCCCCCGGGUGAUUUUAUAGUCUCCCCAGUUUUGUCCAAGGAUUUUGGGGAAGUGCCUAGGUAUCAAACUCUGUCAGUGAAGGAGUAUGUUGGAAUCAAGGGCAAGCAUUUCGAGAAGGCGCUUUCUGUUAUUCAAAAUUAAAUGGGAUUUUUCCCUAUAUAUUUUAUGGUGAAUCUAAGUUAAUUAAAUAAUGAGGUCAAACACACAGAUGGUUUUUGUAAUUUUUAUUUUAUUUUAUGGUUUUUUUUUUUUUUGAAAGGUUUAUUUUAUGGGUAUUAAUCCUUGGCCAGAGGUGUUAUCGUUUAAGAGUUUUUUUCUUCUUCUUCUUGUUUUUUGUUUUUAUAGCCAGGAGAGUCUAAAAUUUUAGAUAAAGAAUAAUAAUUCACAUCAAGGAAUUCGAAUUUAGAUACAAAUAAACGGAAGCUCACUAUCUGUCGAACCUAACUCACUCCUGUUACUGUUAGCAAAGAUGUCGUGCAUGCAUGCUCUCUUUUUUUUAAAAACUUCUCGAAGACUUUAUAUUAAUGAUUGGACCGCAUGCAAUAAAAGUACACAAAGGGGAAGAGAAACGUUCUUUUGAUUUUAAUCAGCAUUUAUGGCCGGUUUGGUUUCCAUUUCUACUCAAAAUAAAUAUGGGGGAAAUGAAAUAAAGUGAUAUUUCUCGGUUACUUUCUCAAUAUUACCAAACGUGGAAAAUAAAUAUUUCAUUUCCCAUCCAUUGGGAAAUGACAUGAGAAAUGAUUUUCCCUCAAAUUCAUUCCGUGAACCAAACGGGACUUUAGUGUAUUAAUAAAGUACAGUCAAUCAAGGAUGAGGAGCCAAUCAUAUGAUGACACAUUAUUACCUUAAUGUUAUCCUACAAUUACAAUUGCAUAGGUCUGAUUUAUUGUUUUUAUUAUUUUAUUUGUUGUUGUGCAGGUUGAAUAUAAGAUGAUAGGUGUGCAAAUUUUCUUCUUCGGCUCAUAAUACGUCCAAGGAAAAGCCUCAUACAAUAAGCAGAAAAGAAUCUUACAAAUCCGAGCUAUCUGUCCACCCAUAUAAAUUGUGUACAAAAGACAUGCCAUGCGAAACAUUUUUAUGUUUUCUCAACUACAUAAUGUGAUAAUUAUAUGCCAAUAUAUCAACACAUCAUCAUAUUUAUGUUUAGUAAUACUCGUUGAGAAGUCUUGAGUUCAAAUCUCGGUUGAAUAAAUAAAUAAAAAUUCCACGUUUUUAUCAUGCAAAGUAGGAUUUCCAAUUUGCCAAUUCACAUGUCCCCUCCUAUAUUUGUUUUCUUCGAAGGGUUCCAUGGCCGUCCACAAUGGGGAUCCAAAAGAGGGUACAAGGAUCGAAUGAGACGACUUGAGACGACUUAAUUUUUUAUCUUUUGGAUUUUUUUUGUUAAUUAAUUUAACGUGUGUGAAGAUUCAUGAACAAAACUGACCUGGUAGAUAAGGCACAAUUAAGGCGACGCAAUUAAUUAAUUAAUUAAUGUAUCCUAAUCAGAAAGGAUUAGGUAUUGUAUGUAGAUCGAUAGAAACAAAAAAAAAUGUCAUUGUAUGCGUCGUUGCCUUUGUAUGAAAAGAGAUACGCCAGAGAAUAAGACGUCGCUCACAUCAUUCACAUCCAGUAUGAAAAAGAUGAGUUGAAUUUCUACAUCAAGCUGAUUAAGCUGAUCUUUCCAUUCAUUAUUUUUAUCUUGGUACGUAGUACAACAUUCAAGAAGCUCGACCUGGAAAAUGUUUGAUUUUUAAUUUACAAGAACUUAUGAUGACCAAUCCUUCAUUUCAAAUGAAUAAGUAAGCAUUCAACCGAUGCGCAUGAAGUUGGUUUAACAACUCGACUUCACAUGCUGCGGAGAUGUUCUAAGCGGCACCUCUUCUGAGUACCUCAUUCUUUGUACAUUCCUCCUGCAUAUUCAAAGUACUACUUCAGUAAUUUCGAGGGAAUCGGUAAACUGAGAGUUGGUUAUAGAUAGAUUGGCAACAGCCAGGACAAUUACUAUCAAUUCUUGCCAAACUGCUAACCAACACUCUUACAUCUCUGUGAAGUAGUAGACAAUGAUAUCAACCACGAUAGGAAAAUAUAAAUUUCUAGGUACCGCAGCAUUUGGACCACCCAGAAAGGGAUGGAAAAACAGUUGAUGGUUUUCUAACAUUAGACAUUUUCUUAAGUAGCAGCACUUCCUAAAUAAUUAUUCAUUAAUACCAGAAUAUGAUAGACAAGAACAGAAGUUUUAACUGAAGGCUCCAGUGUUGCAGACACUAAAUAUUAAUUGUGAUGUCAUGAUUACAGUGCUUACCUGGAAAGCUUUUAAGAGAGAAUAGCAGUGCCUUUGCUCUGCAGUUGCUGCAACAUGCUUCGCCUUCAGAGCAUCACAAACUUUUUGCUCUUCUUUAAGUCCAAGUUGUACCUUUAGUAGCUUCUGUAAAAUAGAUUCGGCAGUAAAAUUUAGGAAUAACUAGAAGCAUUUGUGAAAAAGUAUGUACACAAGUUGAAAACGAGUUGAGGCUAACGAGGCUAAUAAAAUACUCAGUCAUGUAGAAGUUUAAGUUGAGUUUGAUUGAAGUAGCAGACAAUACUGGGAUAUAAAAUUGUUGGGCGCGAAUGUGUAAGCACAUACUAGAUUCAUUUACUCCUCAAUAUGCUGGACACAGAACUCGGUUGAAUUAUAUUAGUUUUAUCUUAUUUGUAUCUCUAAUAACUCAACACGGGGUUUGGCCUGUUACAGGUGUUAUUUUUAGCACAUGAAUUAUAUCUUAUUUCUCUCUUCACUUAGCGGGUGCAUCUGUUUGGUUUCAACCCUUAUCCUACACUAGGGAUGACAUAUCAAUACCAAUAACUAUCUCAUGUUUAUGUCUGGAUGCUUACCAAAUUUUGAAGUGCCCAGGUUGUACAAAAUCUACUAGGAUGUCCCUGAUACUAUUCAGUGAACUACACUGCUAAAGAUUCAUUAUCAACAGUGAUGAUUGGCAACAGGGCAACUGGGUUCACCAGGUUGCCGCAAGGCAGAAAGUCAGUUCCUCUCCAAGGCUAUGCGUAUAAAUCCACACUAGUUAGAACUCUAACUGCUUCUCCCAUGCAAGGAGUUAAAAGGCCAUAAAUUCAAGUCCUUGUAAGGUCAUACGGAUCAAAAGGCUAUGUGACUAGAUGCUAGUAAAUGAUUUACGAGGAAGGUAAAGGGCCAAAACUUUCCAUUUUCUAAAGGAAAAUCAAAGCAGCGCAAGUCGUUUGGUUAUCUUUGAGGGGAACCAUGCUACUAGACUAGAAAACGGAAUACAGAAACUAUGGAUCUCUGUGGACACAUAAAUAAAGUUGUAUAAGGGAGUAAAAGCAAUGCUCUUUAGAAUCAACUAAAGCAUACAUUCCAAGAUUGAGGAACUGAAGUUUCUUCUUUACUAGGAUUGCACAAUAGUUUCAAGGCAGAGUUGGGGUUUUCUUUUCCUGAUCCCCAACAGAAUAUAUGCAGACAAUUUGAUGACAUUUGGGCAUUACCUGUUGACUGCCCUUUAUGAUUCCCUCCAUGGAGUUAAUAAGUUUCAUGCGACCAUCAGUGCUAGUGAUUGCAUCUUGAAACUAUUUACAAGCAAAAUAAGUUGGUAAUAAUAACAGUAUAAUAAUAGCAGAAACAAGUGAAAAACAUCCUGCAUAAAAUCAAAUUAUCGCAGAGAAAUGAAGAAGAAGAAAAAUGGUAGCAUCCCAUAAGAGGAUAUUGAUGACAAAAUUUACAGCAGACUACCUGUGAACUUAUUGAAUUCAAUAAAGAUGUUUCCUUUAGCAUCAAUUCUUUGAUCUCCAAAAGUGCAUUAUAUGUGGCAUAGAAUUUACGAGUUUGUUGAAGUUUUCCCUGAAUUUGAGCAUUCAGUUCUGAAAACCGGCGUUCAUACCUGCAGAGCCAAGGUUGAGACAGUCGGUGUUUUUUCUUUUUCUAUCAUAAACGCAGAAAAAAUAAUCAAAGACCAUACAUAAAAAAUGCCCCAAACUUCAAAUUUCAUACUUUAAGUUGCAUUUGAAGUCUACCCAACUCAUCUAAAUCCUUCAAACUGGUUUUCGUUAGCAACCAUCUAGAAUCUAAGUCCUAAACAAACCCACAAUUUAUAAUCAGAGAAAAAAAGGAAGACAUACUGGAUGAGUUCUGAUUGAGAUGGAACAUCAUCAAUCUGUCGCUGCACUGCCAGCACUGCCCUUGAUCUAGCUGCAAGUUCCUACACAUAUUACUGUUUUCAUCACCAAAUAAAAAAUAAAAAAAUUAUAGCAACACCAUGUUGCAGAAAAUAAUCAUAAUGUUGUGAGCAACAGCAAAUUACCCCUUUAGCUGAAUCAAUUUUCUCCACUGAUUCACUCAACAGACGAUCCAAUUCAUCAGAGACAGUCUGGCCAUCAUACCCAUUUGUUAUUUGGUCCUCCAAUCUACGAACCUCAGCAUCCAAUUCAGAAUUACUAGAAGACUGGAUUUCAAGCUCUUGCCUUUCCAGCUCCUGUAAAAAACAGAAUAAAAUAUCAAUCAAUACCCAUCACCAAAAAACGAAGACGCUUCGAGUAUAAACAGAAUCACAAGGAAACUAGCGAACCUUCAAUGCCUGCCUCAGCGAUAUCAACUUGUGCACCGCAGCUUUAUCUCCUUCCUUAUCGAUUUUCUCUCUUAAACUCUGCAAUUCAUUCGUAACAUUCGCUUUCCUCUCAAUCUGAAAUCAAAAAUGAAAACCCACAUUAUUAAUAAAUCCAACAACUUUUUCUUUGCAUAGAAAAUCAAAAGACUCCAUUUUUGCUACAAAUGGUCAAUAUUUUACUGACCAAUUCAUUCAGAUUGUCUUCUGACAUCGUUGAUCUUACGAAUUGUUAAGUUUCACAGUAAAAACACAACAGUUUAUAGAACGACGGCGUUUUGUAAUUGGUCGGGCUUCGUUGCGAACAAUGUCGGAUUGGGGGUGAGUGAGUGAGGGAACUUGACAGUUUAGGACGGCGAUGCACCAGGCCGCGUAACGAACUUUUUUUUUUCUUUUUCUGUUUUCUUUUUCCCCCUAAACCACGAGGCAUUUUGUGGGCUCAAGAAAUUGGGCUUCUGGUGUUCUCGAGUGCAUUAGAUUUGGGCUUUGAGCUUAAGAGAUUGUCAAGUAUUGGAUGAAGAUUGCAGGGUAACAUCGGCCUGCCAAAUUUCUUUUUACAUUGGGUUUUUUUUUUUUUUUUUUCCUUUCUCAUUUGAGGUUAAUAUAUAUUUUUGAAAUUAGGGUUCAGUCAACUAUGUUUGGUCAGAAACUAUGAAGACGAGAUAAUUAGUUUUCAACCGGAAACAAAUUAACAUUGGGCUUAGUAGCGUGGACUUCUAAGGGCUCGUUUGAGAGUGAUUUUGAAUUGGCUAAAAUCAUUUUUGGGAAGAAGUACAUUCCACGUGCUUUUCUAAAAAAUCAAUUUUAGUGAGGAGGUGCUUCUCCAUAAUCACUUUCAAACGAACCCUAAGAAUGAAAUUAAAGUAAUUGGUCAUUUGAGCUAAGCCUUGCUAGUCAAGUGAGGCAGUGCUCUUCAGAUAUUCACUACGGUGAAAGUAGGGCCCCCCAAACAAAAAGGGUGGGUAGCAACACAAAACUCAGCUGGAAUUUGGAUUGGGUCCGUUAGGUACCCAAAAAAGACAUGAAACAUAUUAGCAAGUUUAUGGUCUGAACCAAAAGCCCCUUGAUUCAAAUCUCAUAAUGAUAUGAUCUUUUAACAUGAUUCAUGAACAAUAAGAAAAGUUAACUCAGUUUCUGAUACGACAAACAUGGUAAAUCAAAUAUUGUAUAUAAAGAAGAUACACAAUUCUUUUUCCCCCCCUUCUUAAUGUGACGAAUUCUUAUGUCCUUAAGUUGAGUUUGGUUCAAAAACGAGUAGAGGGGGAAAAUUAAGUCUUAAUAACUCCAAGUCAAAGCAAUUGAAUUCUCAAUAUUUGAGGGCAAAGAGGUGCCAGGCAUGCAUGAGCUAAACUUGGACUUUUAUCGUUUAAGUCAUCUAAACCAAAGAAAAAAUGAAAAUGAAAAAAACCCAGUGUUUGUGGAUUGGGGGGCAAAAUCAUGAUCUCUGGCUGGCCUAAUGAAAGCUUUUGGUUGACCAAAUAAGACAGGAAGAAACAGCAAGUACCGCACAAACCACGCCCACAUUUGAUGGAGUACAUGUACAAAUGUAAGGUAAUGAGGCAAUUAAGGGUCAAUCAAAUCUGAUCUUGUCAUCAUGAUUUACGACUAAGCAAUGCAUGAGGGCAAACAACUUGAGCAAAUAAUACAGGCUAGCCUAGCUAUCAGAGUACAAAGUACAAAACAUGAUGAUGCAUGAUCUAUAUAUACAGUCUUUUUUCAACCAUCCAAAUUAUUUAUUUUUCACAUCUUUAUUUUGGAAUUAUACUUGCAAAAAAUCAUACAAAUUAAAAAUCAUUAAGUCAUCUAAUUGAAACGAACAAAAUCAAUGAACACGAUAAUUCAAGAAAGUACUUAAAUUUUAAUAAUUUAAUUAAGUGAUCUAAUGAUAUCAUAUUUAAGUGAUUUUUUGUAGAAUUAAUUUUUGAAUGAAUAUCUACAAAAUAGACGGUUUGGAUUAGUGAAAUAUAAUGCGAAAUGGGCUCUACAAAUGUGCCUAUCUAUUAUAUAUAUAUAUAUAUAUAAUUUCCGUUGAAGGAUCCCUUAAUAGAAAGGAAUUAUAUAUUAUGUUCCCUAAAUAUAUUUAAAAAAUGGCUUCUACUUAAAGUUAAAAAACGGCUUCUACUUAAAGUUCAAAUUUGCUUAAUUAGUUUAUAUCAUUGCCUUAAAUCGUGGCUUGGGGUGGGGUUUGAGGUCAAUGUGCACAUCACAUAUCAUAUACACUCACAUGCAGACCUCCAUGAUUAGCAACUAAUAGAGCCAAAUUAAUCAUAUAACCCAAGUUUAUUGUUUUUUCUUUUCUUUUUUUUUCAUAACAUUCACAUGGCAUAUAUUACAACCCAAGUAAGUAUUAAUUAUAUUUAACUAUGAAUGUCUUUGAUUAAUUAUUAAUCACACAUGUCAUUCAUUGUGCAGAUUAGGAUUGCCCUAGAUUUUGUAAUUUGAUUAUAUAGAUACUUUCACUGUAAGCUUCUUUUCUUAGAACAUCUCUAAGGAAGAUGUCAAGUACCAAACAUCAAAUUUAAAUUUGAUGGCUGAUGUGCCAAUUUGACAUUUACACAGUUUUACACUCCACUGGAUAUGUCAAAUAAAAUAUUCAUUUGAUAUCUUACUUUUGGGAUGUCAAAAGUAACAGCUGAACCUUCAGCCUUCAUUCCACAUCAGUUUUGACAAUUCGGUUGGAGUGAUGUGAGAUAUUAUUUCUAGCCUUUAAAUAUCUAUGUGACACUUUUGACAUAUCAGUUGGAGAUGCUCUUAUGUGGCUUUAUUAUAGAUCAACAAUGGAAAUCCUUUAUAUAUUUUAUUUCUCGUUUCAUGUGUUAUUUGCAUUGCACUCUCUCAAAAGGUUGACUUGCCUCAUGAGCUGUAGAUCGGGAUGGGCAAUAAAGUUUUUUAUUUAUUAUUUAUUUAAAUGUUUUCAUCUGCUGGGUAUUUUAGAGCGCAAAUGAUCCUUAUUAGCUCCCCAUCUCCAGCCCUCAUCUCUAGAUCCUUUCCAUUUCUCUAGCACUACCUAUUUCCAAUAUGUUCGAGAAGAAUGUAACAGUAUUUCUCUUUAUGAUAUUACAACAUAUACUACUCUCGAAUCUCUUCUCCAAAUAUAUAUUAAAAAAUAAAUAAAAGAACCUUGUCUCCGCCUUUGCCCACAGGAUUGCAAGAAUGCAAGCUACUCCCCAUCCUAAUUUAUUAUGUGCAUUGUCAAUGAAUGCCCUAAUUACACUAGCCACCACACAUUUUUAAGAUAAAAAUUACUCGUGAAACCGGCUUAUAAUUCAAGUGGUUAAGAGCAUUUAUUCAUGCACAUGAGGUUUUAGAUUCGAUUUUCUCCUUCUUCACUAUCGCUUAUGAAAAGAUGAAAAUAACCUGUACUGUAUAUCAAUGAUCCAACCCAUAAUUAAACCAAAUAUAUUUAUAAGGAAAAGAUGCAAGAUACUUCUACACAUAUAAUGUCUAAAUUCCAUACCAACCACACACACUAAAAUUAUUUGUCUUUAAUGAAAUUAGUAAAACGCACCACACAUACAUAAUAAAGCAACCUUAUUACAAAACACAUCCCCCGAUGGAUAUAUAUAAUCAUAAUUAUAUAUCAAACUCCAGCAUAUAAUUCAAGUGCAUCCUCACGAGUAUUGGACGUGAAGUAUGUGAAGUAUUCAGCAAAGUUGAAUGGCUUGUAUAGCAAAGGGUGCUCUUUGUCUAUAAAUUCCUGAGGUACUUCAAUUACCACCUCCUCUUUAGGCAAAGAAAAUAGGGCAUACGAGUACCUCUCUUUGUCCCCACUCAUCAUAACCCUAUGUGUCACUGCAUGAAGCCUCCCAUUGCUCCAGGCUUUAAGUGCAUCCCCAACAAACACCAUAACAGCUUCUUUCGGGACCAUCACCUCCGCCCAUUUGCCUUGUUUGGUCAGAAUCUCUAGGCCUUGCACAUCGUUUUGGCACAGAAUGGUUAGGGUGUUUUUGUCAGUGUGAGGCACAAGACCAAGGGCAUUGUUAAUGUUGCUUGGAGGAGGAGCUUUGUACUUCAUGAAACGAAACGCACUGGUGGUGUUUUGGGCAUGGGAUUCAUAGUGGUCUCCCAAGCCAAAGCUCUCCAGAAUCAUCCUAAGGAUGAUGAGAUUCAAUUCCAUCAUCUUUGAAGUCAUGGAUUUCAUAGCCUCACUACCAUAACAAAACAAAACAUAUAUAGUCAUGUACCAGAAAAAUGUAACAGUACCCGUUAACCAUUAUCACUAGCAUAUAUAACAAUUCAAUAAUCUUGGAUUUUCAAUUCCACCUAAGUCACGAGGUUUUCAAGAGGAAAAAACUAGGAUAGGGACUUUCCUGCCACGUUGCAGCUUGAUUUGUUUCCUUCAAACAUAUCAUAUAUUAUAAAUUUUUAAUUAUAAUUCAAAUUUUAUAACACAUAUUAUGUUUUAACUAAACGGUACCUGUCACGUGAGAGAAACUCUCCAUUCAAAAUUUUCUCCUCAUGAAGCUCAUGAAUAUAUGCACCUACCCGUUCUCAUUAUAUAUGUACUCUUGUGAUGGGAUAUAUGGAGUUGAAGUUAUUGUUGACUUUUGUACAUAAUCCAAGAAAGUGCAACUGAGUUUUAAAUGAGGCAGUUAUAUCUGCAUAAGAAACUGAUUAUCUUGCCCUGUGCUGGAGUUCUACAAGGACAUGUGCAGGCAUGAUAUAGCCAGAACUAUAUAUAACAAUCAUAUAAAGCUGGCACUCCUUUAAUUCAAUCUGUUUCAAGGGAUAAGCCUUAUUAAAUGAGGCAUUGGCAGGUAGCGAGGGUGUUGGGUAGCAGCCAUUGUCAUGUCAAAAACAUGGAGUUUUUAUGUCAUCAAAAAGCUGUUGCUUGGUUUGAAAGUGUCCAAUUUAAGGAAAGAUUCUCAAUCAUCUAGUGACCUUAACAACAAUUCUUUCCUAAUCUGAUCUAAACAGAUAGUGAUUAAUAGUGAUUAAUCUUCUGUUUAGCUGCAAUUAUAUGUAUUUAUAAUUAACUCCCCGCCCUCUUCAAAUCCAACUUUCGAAAUCAAUAACUUAUUGAAAGGUAAUAUAUGACACGAGAAAAAUGUUUGAAUUUUAUUCUUAGCUACUAUUGGUUUGUCUAUCUUAGACUCCUACAGUGGGAUAUCUCAGACUGAGAACAACAGUUCUUGCUUUUUUAUUAAAAAUAAAAAUAAAAACCAAAAUUAAAUUUGGCCUUGUGGGGGUUUUUUUUUUUUUUUUUUUAAUUUUAUUUUUUUACAACAAGCGAUAGAAUUUUAUUCGAACAACUGGAUACAUAUAUUUGGGUGACGAAGCAUGUAAAUAUAUAUGUGAUCAAAGCUAAACCAACAUGUUUAUUUUCCAAAGCUUAAUUAGAACGCAAGAAAAUCUCACCAGAAAGAAGGCUUGCCUUGUGGCCACAUUAGGUUGGUGAAGGCUUCAGCUACAUCGAGCUCGCAGGCAUUGUCGAUGCCAAAGCUUUCGUUCAAGGGAAUGACAGGGCUCUUCCCUUCAUAGCUUUGGUAAGGCUUGGGGCUUGUGUGCUUCUGCUUGGUCUCUUCAGGCAGAUCAAACAAAGCUUUCAUGGCCGCCACCAUUUCUUCACGUAAAUUCAUGGGGAUCUCAUCCUUCACUAACACAAGAAAGCAACCAUAAUUCUCACAUGCCUCUCUAACUUUGUUGUUCAUAGCUUUCCAUUCCUCAGUCCCUUGUUUUAAAACUAAACCCUCUGAAAAAUCAAGAAUUGGAAGUACUUGAUCAGCAUGAGCUUCCUCUCCCAUCUCUAUCUUUCUCUCUCUUUGUCUGUCUCCUACUCUCCAACUCGUUUCUUAGAAAUUUAAGGGGAAGAACCCUCACUCAAUAUAUAGGAAGCUAUGGCUAAUGGCUCCACAGGGUAAGCCCCCAACAAAAAAAAUAUAUUAAUUUUGUCCUACCCUUUUAGCUGGUUAUUUGGGCACCCACUUAUUUUUCUACCCGUUUUAUUUCUUUGCUCGGAUGUAGAUCUUAUGUCACAUGUCAUCACUCCUAUGAGUAAUACAUACAUCACUUGUCACAUAAUGUGUCAUUAGCUAAUGCCUCUCAUUUGGAUAUAUAUCAUUCUUUGCUAUAAAAUUUUGCCAAACUAUAACUUAUUAAUAUAAGAGGAAGGCUACUUGUAAGCAAAAUUUGUUUAAUCAAAAUGUUUUGCUAAUUAGCAAAUAAAACAGCUAUUUAUAUAGACUUUUUAGUUGUCAUAGUCCCUGAAUUUAGACCCGAUUUACAUUUUGGUCCUCGAAUACAUAAAAUGGUUGAUGUAGUCCUUCAACUUCACUUUCGUUUCCUACCGUCAUAUUUGUUAAAUUUUCUGUUAAAUUUAGAGGUAAAAUUGUUACUUCAAAUCCAACCCCCAUCACUCACACCAGCACCACUCCCACCACCACUUUGUACCAAAAUCCACCAUUUCCACCACCACGAAAACAAAGAACAAGAACAAGACCCCGUUGCCUUCUUUGAAUUUUUUUUAUUUACACCCAUCCAAUAUCUAAGUUCACACCCUAAUGUUUAUUCAAAACCUUAAAAUCCAACUAUAACGUAUGACCAACACUGCUAACGGAAGUGGAGUUCAGGGACUAAAUCAACUAUUUUGCAAAUUCGAUAACUAAAAUGUAAUUUAUGUCUAAAUUUAGAGACCAUGGCAACUAAAAUAAUUUACAAAUUCACAGAGUUUUUAUAUAUUAUUAGCGAAUUAUGAUAUAUAGUGAUCUCUACGAAACCAAGAAGGAUAAAUUAUCUAGUUGAAAGCAAAAAUGCAUAUAGUUUGUAGCAAACUUAACAAGUAACAAAAGUAGAUAUGGAGAAAAAAAAAAUACCUUCAAAAAGUUUUAACAAACAAAUACCAAAGGUCGAUGGUUCAAGUUUCUUCUAGUCAGAUGAUCUUAAAUACAAACAGCCCACAGCUCUGUGAGUUGAAGAGAAGACUUUCGUACCCACAUGGGUGCAUGGUGUGCAGCUCCUCUAAUAAAGAUAUGGGGUGAGGGAGGGGUACCCAAAUAAUUUGUCCAAAUUCAAUAUAAACCCUAUCAUUUAAGGAUCCCUCUCAAUUAUUAUUCAUAAAAAUAAAAUAAAAACCUCAUUUACAAAUCAAUCAAUGCUUUGUGUUUCUGCAUUAAUUAAGUUGUCAUUUAUGGUGUGGUUCCUUUUUUUUCCUUUUUCUUCUUUCUGUCAUUUAUAUUCCGUUGGCAAUAUUGAAAAUGAUUAGGGAGCAUAAUGUAAUGAACUGGUUGGAAAAUGAUAUGUGAGUAGAUUGAAGAAGAUGUGCAACAGUUGUAUCCCACAAAUUACAAAAACUAAAUUCAGCUGAUGAGACAUGCACCAAGAACAAACGCCUUUGUGCUUGACUCGACAUUCGACAAGUCGGCAAGCUACACAUGGCACAUUAUAUGUUACAUAAAUUGCUCUAUUUGUGAAUUUUGUGAGGCUAUUCACACAUAUAUAUAUAUAUAUACAUAUAUAACUAUUAAUUGACUUGUGAGUCGGUCCAACAACCAUGUGCUUUUGAACACACUACCCUAUUUAUCUUCAUUUUGUUAUAAUUUUCCUCUAUUAAUUACAGGAGGACGUAUCUCGACAUUGAAUCUCUACUUAAGUUUUGAUGUCUGAUUUCUACCAUCAUCCUUUUUUGUGAUUUCUUCAAGUUUGGAAUAAGUCGCAGAGACUCUUUGGAUUUUUUUUGUGUAGUUUUCACAUAUUCUUUUUGUGAGAGUUUUUCACCUCUCUUUUGCGAGAGUUUUAUUUGUAUUGUUGUGAUUUGGAUUUCUCAAGCUUUCCCUCUUUUUGGUUGUUCUGAGUUUGCAAUCUUAGUUGGAAUGUCUAUGCCGAAAUUUCUUUGAUCCUGCGUGAUCAUUAGUGGAGAAGCCUUAUAUUGUCUUCAAUUUGAUGUUAGAUCACUCCGUUAUUAUAAUUGCGUUUUGUGACUAAUGACUUUUUUGGCUAAAUUAUAAAUGCAAUCCCAUAAUUUCUCAACAAAAAAAAAAAAAAUCACUUCAAAUUGUGGUCUCAAACGAAAUUAAUUAGCUUCUAGAUGGAUUAAGGUAUCUUAUCCUUCAAAAUCUUUCUUUUAUCUUUUUGGCUAAUAAAACCCUUAAGUUGGUGAAUUAAAAUGGAUCCCUAGUUGUUAAGGGGUCAUCUAAUGUCAUAAUCACAUGCCUUUGAUUCGAUGGGUGACAUGGUAGGUAUAUGCUUGAUGUUUAUACUUGGCAAUAUUUUACCCACUAUUCAUACCACAUUUACGAAUUACAUUAUUAUUUUUUUUUUUUUUGUUAAAAGAAGAUUUUUGUGAAGCCCACACCAAUGGAAAUGAGUUUCACAUUACUGUAGUCCAUGGACAAUUAUGGACCAAGCCAUUGUCAUAGUUGUUGCUGAAACAGAGUCAGAGGGAAAGAUUAAUAGUCACUUUUUGGUUGCCAAACCAUUAAACAUGUGCAAUACGAAAACAUUCUGUGCAUUUUAUUAUGUCUUCUGGGUAAUCGUACAGUAUGGCUUUAUAUAUAAGUGGUCCAAGAAACACAGCGCAAUUCUUUCUUGCUUUAAUAGACCUUUCACAAUUAGGUCCUAAUAAAAAUGGUGGAAGAUUUAAGUAGGGUAUGGACCAUGGACCAUCUUCAUUGGUGUCCCAGACUCAUAGACUUGGUAGGGUUGCACCACAUUUAGAACCCUUUGCCCUUCAUAGCAAGGUACACUCAAAUGGGUCAAAAACUUUACCACAUUAUGAAGGAAUCUUUUUUGAAUACAAGGGAUAGUCUAAACUACAAGGAGAUGAAGGUUUCAUACACAACCAAAGUGUUAUGAGGGUUCAAAUCUAAGACUACCGGUCUGCAAGUCAAGAUCAUUUUCCAAUGGGCUAGACCCGUUGGCCAUUAUGAAAGAAUCUUUGACAUGAAUGUAAGAGAAAAAGAGGGUAAAAGAAAGUAGACAAAAAUAUUAAGUGUUUUCUCUGUGGAGCAAAAGAUUCUUUUCUUCUUCUUCUUUCGUUUUCUUAAUCCUUUCUCUUUGAAGCAACUCGAUGGCUUCUGUGGACCAAGCCACGCAGAAUCCCAUUUGAACUGUAUAUCUCACUUUGGUUGAAUCUCUUCAAAUUUGAACUAUCUUUUGAGACUACCUAGAGCUAGCUAUCCAUUUUUGUGUCACUUUGUUAGUUUCCUUUGCACACCUGCCUUAAACUUUUGAUUUCAAAAGUUGGUGGCUAAGAGAGUUGCUUAGAUACGCUUUGUACAUUAAUGGGUCUAUUUCAAAACCAACAAACAAGAACCACUUUGUUUUCUAAAUUUAUCAAAUUUCAAUUCUGCACGGUUGCUAAAAACAAAUUGCAGGUGCAAACUGCAAAGAGCCUGAGAGUGUCCUCAAGUGCUAAUUCCAGCAAACGCAAAAACUGGCAACUGGCUUUGCUGAGUCAAUGGCCACUCCUUCCUCUGAAGAAAAGAACCUAAAAAAUUCCAUAAAGUCAAACUCUUUAAGAAUUUGGGGAUGUUCUUCAUCCAUUAGCUCCUUUGGUGGCUUGAUGAUGGUACCCUCUGUUGGAACUGGAAAUAUUCCUAACGAAAUUCGUUCUUUCUCUCCGCGCAUCAUCACUCGAUGCUUCACAGGAUGCAUUCUUCCAUUCCUCCAUGCCUGCAAGUCAAUGUUCCAAUGACCACAAGUUACCAUUAGUGAUUUUUAACCUUUGUUUAAUUUUUACAUCAUCAAAGUUCAAGGCAAGGGAAAACUUCAGCCCUCCCAGAAGGUGUUACCAAGUUGCAUGCUGCACAAUUUAAUUAGUUCACAUGGUCUAAUUGUAUUUCAGUUAUAAAGUAGUUUACUAAUAAGUUGUACCAUCCCAGAAGGUGUUACCAAGUUGCAUAUUUGCUGCACAAUUUAAUUAGUUCACAUGGUCUAAUUGUAUUUCAGUUAUAAAGUAGUUUACUAAUAAGUUGUAUCACAAGAGGAUCUCCAACAAUAAAGAGAAAGGAGCUAGGAGAUAGAGACAAUUUGACCCAUUGUCCGUCCUUGGUUUCAAAUUCAAUCCCUGAAACUUGAUCCUCACAAAGGAUGGCGCUCAAUAGUUUGUCAGUGUGAGCAGUGAGCCCUACCUCCUCCCCUGAUGGAGGUGCGCCGCACUUCAUUACCCGUAGCAGCGUAUUGCACGGUAUGAUCAAAUCUGAUUUCUCUCCCAAACCAUAACUAUCAAGAAUCAUCAUUUCAAUCAUGUCCUUCAGCUCAUCUAGCUGCCUCAUCAUAGUAACUAUAGUGUUGCUGUUGGAAACAGAACAACAUCAACAAGUGCUUCAGCAAUAAAUAUGAGGAUAAAAUGUAAUGGGGUAUGCAUAUAUAAAACCAUGUUAUAUAUAGGUUGAAUUAAACAGGCUCAAAAUAAGCUAUAAAUAAAUAAAAAUUAUUACCAAAAGUGGUCAUGGCCAUUAGGCCAGAGUAGUUCUGUGAAUUAUCUAACAGCUUCAAAGUUGGAGGCAUCUUCAAGGCCAAGGCUCUCAUACAAGCGAACAUGUGGAUACUCUCCACAGUAACCAUGGAAAGGCUUUGGAUUAACAUUCUUCUUCUUUGUUUCCAGUGGAAGGCUGAAAAGUUGCCUUACCAGUGAGAAGGCCUCAGCUCUUAACUGCAGAGGUAUCUUAUCAUACACUAUUUCAAAACAUCCAUAAUUUUCACAAGCCUCUCUAACCCUCUUGCACAAACUGUUCCACUUAUCAGUUCCUCUGUCCACUGCCAGAGAAGUCAUUGACAACUCUAUGGCAGGAACCCCGUGCCGAAAAUCUGAACCCAUUUUCUCCUACUUGUCCUGAAGCCAAGUACUGUUUCUUAAUUCUAGUUGUGCUUUGGUGAAUUGCUUCUUUGUUGGAGGAUUUUAUUUAUAUUGCACAUGGUUCUUCUAGUGAAAAUGAUAUACAGACAAAUACCAACUUUCUAAUUGAUCUAAAAUAAAUCCCAACUAGAAUCAAAGACCAAUCAGAGGCCAUCAAUUAGACAUAAUAGCUGUCCAGAAAAUUCAAGAACACUAGAAGGCUACAUAAUACAACGUUAACUAAACAACCAACUGUAACCAUCACCUUACAUAAGCAUCUGAGAAAUUGCAGUCAAUAGAUAGUUCGUUUAUUUGCUACCAAACAUAUUAGAAUAAUGUCCGGCCAUGUCGUGUUUCAAGAUAAACUAAUAUUUUUCAAGUAUAUACUUUUUAUUACCCCUUUGUUGUCUUCACCAUUCACUUAACAAAAAUGGGCAUGGCUCCAUUAACCAUUGUAUACUUCUUGUAUUGACAAAUUGUGCAGCCAUUGAUAUUCAGGCUCUAUCAAAAGCAUGCAUUAUAAAGAACAUGAAUCAACGAAAGGAACUGAAGGCCGUCCUGCCUUCGAUGAUCGAAACUCUUGCUCCUCCACUAUCUGGUUCAAUCAAUGACAGAGAAAUUUUAACUAGAGGCUCCAAAUUAACCAUAUUUUAUAAUUCUCAAGUUUAACAUUACAUUCCUUUUCUUGUCCUCCAUUGAAACUGCAUAUUAUCAUCUGAAGAAGAAUCGCCAGCUCAGAAUUAUGCGCCUUAAACAACUUUGAAACCGAAUGAGAAUUGAAGCGCAAAAUUUCUAUAGAGCUGUUUGAAGAGUUACAACAGGUCCAUGAAGCAUGAACAUAGAAUACAACAAAAAUAGUAUUAUAAGGUCAAUCAAAGUUCAUCUAAACAGAGAAACAACCAUUCCUUCACUUCCAGAGCUUGACAAUCUUAUCAUAACUAGCUGAAGCAACCACACCUGUAACAGGUGACACAGCCAAAGAAGCAACACAUCCUUCAUGUGCUGGUAGAAGCAUUGUCUUCAUCUCGGGAAUGUUCCAUAGCUACAAAACCUACAGUUAUUGUCCCCAGUUAAAAAUCAGGCAUGAAACCGGUGCAGCAAGAACAUAACUGUCAGUCUAGGAUCCCUUUCUGGCAGUGAAACAGGUGAAAUGGGAACCAAGCCACAAGGUUUAGUACCCCUCCCAGCCAUAUGGGACUAUAACGAAAUUCCAAACAGAGAAGAAAAUAAAGCAAAAAAAAAAAAAAAAAAAUAGGAAAAGCACAUACAGUGGAGAGGGAGAACUACUCUUUACGCAUUUAUCUUCUCUCCCAGUUGGAAGAUGAGAGGGAGGGUGACACAGAGAGAAAGACCGACACUGAUUUAAAUAUUCGAAUAUAUUUAAAGAGUACAGUCAUUGACUGUAGUUUUUUAAUAUAUACUUUUUAAAUAUUCCUAUAUUUAAACAAUAUAGCCGUGCUGCUUUACUAUUUAAAAUUCCAAAGUGUGUAUCAAGCAGACUCCAAAAAGGCAAAAGCACCAAGCAACCCCACAUUUAUGUUCGCGUAAGAAUCAAUUAUUUAACAUGUAUUUCUUUUAAAAAUAUCCGUUUAUUAUAUCCUUUUCUUGGAAAUUUAGAUAAUCAUUCACACACCUUUUUAUCAAGGCCACCACCACUGGCCCUGUUUAUUUUCUGAUGUCUUUUGUUAGAGGGUUUAUUAAUAUUGACCAGCUGCUGAAGCUGAAGUGAAAAUGAUUUUAAAAUAGUAUUGCCGCGCGGUUUAACUCAGCUCUUUUUUUAAAUAAAUAGUAUGGCCAUGCAGCUAUACGUUCUUUAAAAAUAAAAUAAAAUUCUAAAAACCAAGUAUAGCAGGCGGAAAACAUGGGGGGGGGGGGGGUGUGGGGGAGGAACUAGUAUAGCCGCGCGGUGAUACUAUUUCUUUACAAAAACUAAAAACGAGUAUAGCCGACUGGCUAUACUAUAAUUUUUUUUUAUUACGAACCUAGUAUAGCCGUUCAGCUAUCCUAUUUAUUUUCAUAUAAAAAGUUGGAAAAACCACAUAUAGCCGGUCGGCUAUACUAUUUAUUAAAAAGAGAUUUUUUUUUAAAAGCGCCAAGUAAAGCCGAGCCUUUAUAUUAUACAAAAAAUUAGAAAAAAACUGCGGCUAUACUAUUUUCUUUGAAAAAAAUUGGAAAAACCCCAGUAUAGCCGGGCGGCUAUACUAUUUUUUUGAAAAGGGGAAAAACAAGUAUAGCCGAUCGGCUAUACUACAACUUUUUUGGAAAAUUACCAAAAAACCGAGUAUAGCCGAGCAGCUAUACUACUACUUUUCAAAAAUUACAAAAAAACUGAGUAUAGCCGGUCGGCUAUACUAUUUCUGUUUUAAAAAAGUAAAAAAGUGUAUAUUCUUAAAAUAAAUUUACCGGCUGUACGACUUCUUUUUGAAAAAUUACAAAAACGGAGUAUAGCCGUCCAGCUAUACUACUUUUUAAAAAUUACAAAAAACCGAGUAUGGCCGAGCGGCUAUACUAUUUAUUUUUUAAAACAAAAUUGAAAAAAUACCAUUAUGCCCGCGCGGCUAUACUAUUUCUUUGAAAAAAAUUGGGAAAAAACCGUGUAUAGCCGGUCGGCUAUACCAUUUGUUCUUAAAAAAUUAAAAAGCGAAUAUAGCCGGGCGGCUAUACUAUUUCUUUUAAAACAAUUGGUAAACACCCAGUACGACUAUACUAGUUCUUUCAGUAAAAUUGGAAAAAACCUAGUAUAGCCGCUCGGCUAUCCUGUUUUUAAAAAAAAAAAUUUUAAAAACCGAGUAUAGCCGUUCGGCUAUACAAUUUCUUUUUAAAAAAAAAUUGGGAAAAUCCAGGUAUAGCCGCAUGGCGAUACUAUUUCUUUUUCAAAAUUGGAAAAAACCGAGUAUACCCACUUUCCAAUCAGACGCCAUCUAAAGUUUUAAAUUUGGAUCACUUGAUAGGGAGAGAUGGAAUCUCUAAUUAGAAUAUCAACUUAUUAAAUUAGCCAGUAUAAUACGAUGUUAAGUUGUUAACUAGAAAACCAUAUACUUAUCUAUCACCUUACACAAGCGUGUUUUCUUUUUCUAAAGAACCAUUUCGUCCGGCCAAGUAGGAUUUUUACAUAAGCUGACAUCCAAACUUGUUCUAGUUGAGAUUAGACAUAUGCUGGGCAUGCCCAUAUUUAUCAAGUCAAAUCAUGCCCAUCAAACCUCUUGUUUAAUAUCACAUUCCUUUGGUUUCCGAUUUCAUCUCAUAACGAAUCUGCAGCUCGAAACUGAAUAGUUUGUUUCUCAAAUAUGAAUUUAGGGAGAAGCAAAUCAUAUGCAUGCCUUAACAUUCUGAAACCCAAUGAGAAUGGAAAUAGAAAAUUUCUAUACAACUGUUUGGAGUGUCUCAAAAGAUCCAUGAAGUUGUUCUCAAAGUGCAAAUUCCAGCAAACACAAAAACUUGCCUUGCUGAGUCUAUGGCCCUUCCUUCCUCUGAAUAGGACAACUUGGUAAAAUCCAUGUGGUCAAAUUCUUUGAGAAUUUGAGGAUAUUCUUCAUCAACUAACUCCUUUGGUGUCUUGAUGAUGGUACCCUCAACUGGAACUGCAAAUGCUCCUAGAGAGUAUCGAUCUUUUUCUCCAGACAUCAUCACACGAUGCUUCACGGGAUGCAUUCUGCCAUUACUCCAUGCCUGCAAGUCGAUGUCAAGGACAAGUAGUCAUCAUGAGUGAUCACAUAUAUGUGUAUCUUCAAGCUUCAGCACAUUUAGAAGGUGUUACCAAGUUGCAUGUUUGCUGCACAAGAUCAUAUUGAGCACAUGUUCUGAUUGUAUCGGAUAUGUUAAAAUCUAAGUAAUUUCAGUUAUAAAUAAAUUAGUUUCAAAUUGUACCAUAAGAGGAUCUCCAACAAAGAAGAUGAAGGAGCUAGGAGAUAGAGAUAACUUGUUCCAUUGUCCAUCCUUGGUUUCAAAUUCAAGCCCAGAAACUUGAUCAUCACAAAGUAUUGUGCUGAAUUGUUUGUCCGUGUGAGCUUGGAGCCCUUUCAUGUGUGUUGGAAUAAAAAAAUCACAAAAAUCACAAAAUAUUGGAACGUGGGGGGAAGUUUGGAAAAAGGUGGGGGUCUAAACCAAUGAAAACGUUCAAGAGAGUUUAGUGGCUCCUAUUUUUGGGGGAGCUGGUUAUCCAGUUUUUAGUAUAAAUAUUUUGCAUUAAAGGGGGAAGAAAAAAAAGGAGGAGAGGACGACAGAAGAAGAAAACGGUUGCAGGAGGAAAAUUGCAGGAGCACAAAUACAAGAGGAGACAUUUUCACAGGUAUUUUGGAUCCUGUCAAUUAAUUCUUGUUGGGUGGCAACCCUCAAAUCAUUUUCUUGGAUGAUGAAUCCAUAUUGGGUGGCAACCCUCAAAUAAAACUCUUGGAUGAUAAAUCCAUAAUGGGUGGCAACCCUUAAAUCAUGAACAACAAAUCCAUGAGAGGAUUCCUGUUUAACAAAGCUCUGCCGAGCAAAAGGAAAUCCUUUGAAAUGGAUACAAAAUAUUGGAUACAAAAUCCAUCAUGGGUGUGUAACCCUCAAUCAAAUACCCUGAAUAGUAUAUCCAUUUUUGGACAUAAAACUCAUUCAGUGAGUUCUCAAGAGCACAAAUCCAAUUUCGGUACAAAACCCACCAACAUAAUCGUGGAGGGAUUUAAUCUCACAGCAAAUAAAAAUCAGCUGUGUGCACAAAAAAGAGAGGAACAAAGCUUGAAAAGAAAGGCCACGUUUGUGCAGCCUAUCCUUUGAAUUCUUCAUCUGGGGAUUGUAUGUGAACAAUCAAAACCAAGGGAGGAAGAAGGAAGGAUGGAGGUCUUUAAAAGAAAAAGAUAAAAAAGGAUAGCCACGUUCCUGUUGGCAACUUCUGGAGGCGCAGCAAACCAAAAGCAAAAGAAAAAAAAAAAAAACAAGAACAGAAGCAGCAGCCAAGAAGAAACAGAAGAAGAAAAGUCAACAAAAAAAAUAAAAUAAAAUAAAAGGGAAGUGGCUCACGCCACUUUGCUGAAAUGGGAAGAAAAGAAAAAAAAACAAGGACAAGAACCAUGCUGUUGCAGAGAAGAAAAAUAAGGAAAAAGACAAAAAAAAGUCUGAAACCUCUUUGAUGUUGCGGCAGUUUCUUUUUUUUCUUUCUUCUGGCUUUCUCUUUUUUGUUUGCAAAGGCUGUAUAUUAUUUUCUUUAAAGACUGAACAGUAACAGUGUUUACCUUUAAUUCGGGCUGAUCACAAGCAUUCCAGAUAAAGAUGGGACUGCAAGAUCAGAUUUUACUUAGAAACAAACUCUAUAAAGAGUUGGAUAGCUAUCAGGUUGUUUUAAUCGCCUACUGGAUCAAAGUUUUCUGGGCUCUUUGCUCAUGGGCUAUCAGGGAAUAAUUAUUCAUUGACUCUCAGAAGCCCAUACAAUUAAUGGGUAACCCAAAUAAUUACCUAUUAAAUUCCCUAAGGCCCAAAUUUCCUAUCAUAUGGUUAAUGGAUUAGUUAUAAAAAAAAAUCCUUGUAGCUAUAUUUGGGUCCAAGUGCAAAUGUCAACUUUAGAAAAUUAGUGGGUUAAGCAAAAUUGCUCAUUAAUUUUCUGGGACAUUGACAAAAAGAAAAAGUGGUACAAAACCAUCCAAAUUUUUCCCAUGGGUCAUCUACCCAUGAAAAUUCCAAUGAGAUUAAAUUCAAAUAUCUCAAACACAAAUUCUCAAUUAAUGGGCCACACUUACCCAUUAAUUUCAAAAUUUUCCCAUUAGGUCACCUACCUAUGAAAAUCCCCAAAUUAUCUCAAAGAUACAAAUUCUAAAUUAUUGGGUCAUACAUACCCAUUAAUUUCCAAUUUUUCCCAUAGGUCAUCUACCUAUGAAAAUCUUCAAAUCGUCUCAAAGACACCAACUCUAAAUUAUUGGGCCACACUUACCCAUUAAUUUCUAAACUUUCGAACUACGUUGGUUUGAUCCCUUUACAAGGGUACGUAGGCAAUCUAGAGAUUCAAUCUAGAUGCAACCAUCCCAAACAUAUUUCCAUAUCGAAUCCCUGGUUUAUUCAGCUAAAUUCACUCAAACACUCCUCAAUCAAACUCAUUCAAAUUCUUCGUUUUGCGAUGAGUCAUUUAUUCAUCGUGAAUCUUUGAACUACGAGUGGCUUGAUUCCCGCAAGGGAUACGUAGGCAUCCUGAGGUUGGACUUAGGAGCAGCUGCAAAAUCAAACACACACGUUCUGUUUCUUUAUGAUGGAAUCAAAGGGUUUUCCCUUGAAGCAAGGGAUUGUAAUUAAGAGGCUUGCGUCUCGAAUGGGUCGAACCUAAAAUAAUAAAACCCCAUUAUUUAAUUAGUGGUGGUGAAAUUAUAUUAGGAAGAUCACAAUUUUCCUUCAACAAUGUGGAGGUGGGCUGUACUUCAUCACCUGUAGCAGCCUCUUACAUGGCACGAUUGAAUUUGGUUUCUCUCCCAAACCAUAACUAUCAAGAAUCAUCAUGUCAAUCAUAUUCUUCAGCUCAUCCAGUCUCGUCAUCAUGGUAACUACAGUGUUACUGUGGAAACAUAUUACCAAAACUGGUCAUGACCACUAGGACACGUCUUUGCUGGAGAUGUUCUUAAACCUACUUUGCGUUUCUGAUGAGUUGCUUCUUCUUUAGAGGGUUUUAUUUACAUUGCAGAGCAGAGUUUCUGUAGCGACAAUGAUAUAUAACCAAAUAACCAAUUUACAAGUGCUCUAAAAUAUCCCAACUGGAAUCAAUGGCCAGAGGCUAUCUUAAUAUUUAACUUUAAACAUGAAAGGGAGAGGGCCGGAAAAUCCAAGAACACUAUAAGCUUACAUAAUACGAUGUUAACUAGAAAAACAUAUAUAUCUGUAUCACCUUACGCAAACAUGUAAAAAAUUUAGAACAGAUAAACAUAGGAAAAUAAAUUUUGUUUGGCCAAGUAGAUUUUUUACGUAAGAUAUCAGCCAAACUUGAUUUACUUGUCGUUAGACUGGCAUGGUUCCCUUGGCCAUUGGAUAUUCUUUUAUCCAGAGACCUUUGACAUUCAGGCUUUAAGCAAUGCAUCACAGAGAAAUAAUUUGCGUUGGAGUCUCUCAAGAUGCCACGGGAUGUUACCGGCACACAACAAUCUCUCCCUUCCCGGGCUGUCAAAACCUCAUGCUCCGCCAGGGAUCCCUCUGUGGCAGUACCUAACUGAAGUAACGGACAUAUGAAGCACAGGAUCUGAAACAAAUUUCUUUAGUGGUGGGUAUUUCAUUUGCUUAGUUUUAGGCGGCAACGAAACGCAAUCAGCCUCAAUUUUAUUAAUGACCUCUCUUAAGUGUAAAAUUUCAUACGUAUAGAAAAACUUUGACACAGUUGCACAGAAGGCACAGGAACCCAUUUAAACUGACGAAAUCGACAUUGAUGAGAGAACAAUUAUCAUCUCAAAGAGAUUCGGGAGCUUGGAAUUAUAUAGUUUGCAUUGAACCAAAAUGAAACAAAAUGAGAAAGGAAUCAUAAAAAUUCUAUUUUACUGUUUGAAGAGCGUUACAAGAGUUCCAUGAAGCAUGACAGAUCUCCAGGUUUACUAUUAUAGUAACAGGUAGACAAAUACAACAAUAAUCUUACAAGGUCAGUUUCUGGGGGUCAUAUGGAGCCGAAGUUCGAGAUCCAAAAAAGCAAAAGACGACGAUCAAUCGAGCAACCAAAAGACAAACUACAAAGCAUUGGACCAAGACUGGUAGAAACCUAUUCCUAUUUUGUGAAGUACAGUUAAGCAGAGUAACAAUCAUUUCACUUCCAGAGCUUGACAAACUUAUCAUGACUAGCCGAAGCAACCAAACCCGUAACAGUUGACAUAGCCAAAGCAGCAAUAAGUCCAUCAUGUGCUGAUAGAGUCAUUGUCUUGUUCUCUGUCAUGUUCCACAACUCCAAUGACUGCAAUUAUUUUCCCAUAUAAUAAUCAAAUGUGAUAUUUUGCAGCAACAUAACCAUCAGUAAAGAAUCGUUUCUAUGGCAGUGAAACAGGUAAAAUAGGAACAAACAUCCUAACAGCUUAAGAGAAUGGUGGUCUCUGACCAAAAAUGUAACAAACAUUACUUCAGCGCAAUAAUGCAGAAUUGACUUGCCUGAUAACAGCCAAUGACCAGCAGGGAAGUAUACGUCGGAUGGAAAACACAUGAAUGAAAUUUACUUCCAUUGCAGCUCAACUCAUGAACACAUUCCCCUUCACCUCCUGAUCUGAGUGUCCAAACUCUUACAGAGUCCUCACUGACAGAUGCAAGGAACUCGCCAGAUGGAUCCCAGCACACAGAAUGGACAGGCUUACUAUGCCCCUGCAUUCAAAACCAAAUUCCAAGUAACACAAUUGAGAAUCUACAUGAAAAUAUUAGGACAACAGAAGUAAAUAGUUCAAGAAUUUGUAUAGGAACAUCAAAUUGCAUCAUAAGUGCCAAAAGACAACAGAUAAAUACGUUAGUAGAAAUUCAACGAAAUAUUUAAUCCUACAAAAAUCACCGUUUCCCAGUGAAACAAGCACCUGAACCAUCCAGAUACUUGCAACGAGACCACAAUAAUGAUUAUCAGACUAAGCCCUUUAGGUUAGCUAAGUGGUGAGGGAGGGUAGGGAUAUGGGUUAGGGUUAAGAUUAGGAUAGGUCAAGGGUCUGAUCCCUUCCAAUGUAACCCAAAAAAGAAAUAAAGUUUAUAAGAGUCGAGCAGGAUCCUUUUUUUCUGUGAAAUAAUGCCACUGUUAUUCACCAAAAAGAAUAUCAUCGUUGAUAUAGAACUCAAGAAAGAAUCAGAAGUUAAAAUGUAGCAUUACAUAAUCAGUUUAACUCACAAUUAUCAAACGGACAAUUAUGAUGAAACAAAAUGUUAAACUGACCUGUAAUGAAUGCCGACAAGCCUGUGUCUCGACAUCCAGUAUAGAUACAACAUUAUCUGCCGCUGCAGCAAGAAAUCUUCCAUGGCGGGGUUGAAAUCUCAUCUGUGCUGUACCACCCUAAUACGUACAAACCAAACACAAUUUAUAAAAAUGCGAAUAAUCUGAGAACCACUAUUACCCCACCCCACUGAACUUCUACAUCCAAAUAGACAAGAUUCUACCUUGAACACACUUGAGCAGCUGCCAUUGUUAAUACUCCAGUAGCGUAUCUGACCAUCCGAGUCGCAGGAGCAGAUAAGGUCAUCUUUAUUUGGGUGGAAAUCUAAUGACAUAACAGAGGCAGAAUGUCCCAUAAAGGUACGGAGUGAAUAGCCAGGCUGCAGAUUAAAGACAUAACGAUGCUUUAAUACAGCACAUCCGUUGCAUGUCACAGUUAAAAGAUACAAAAAAGAUAAAUCAUCAUCACUUUUAAGAAUAGAGCCACCACUUCAGCACCCCAGCAAUGACCCAGCACAAAGACAAACUUAUCAUGGGAAAGAUUAUGGAAUAUAUGAUAGAGAUCAAUCUAGAAGUAUACUUGGUCUGAUUGCUUAAAGUAUUCGAUUUUUGAAACAAAAGGUUAUUUUUAAAGUAUAAGCUAAGCAGAUGAAUAGAACGAAAGAAUUUUCCACUAACAUUGUCAGCAUCCCAGACCCUGACAGUUUUGUCGAAUGAAGACGUUGCAAGACGUGGCAUGCUUGGACUAAAACGAACAUCAGUGAUCAAAGCUGAAUGUUCUUCAAGAGUUGAUUUUACCUUUAAUGUAUCUGUGUACCACAAUACAGCCUGCAUCAUACAUAUAUCAAGAAGACUUUCAAUAAGUAAAUGCAAGACCCCAAAAAACAACCUUAUUGCUUUUAAUAAGUAAAUUAAACAAGCAAUUUCACAUUUAUGUUCUGGAAGAAUCAAUAUGCAGCAGCGUUGAAUCCUCCCCACAGCACUUCUUAGCAAUUAGACAUUCAUUCACUCACCUUUUUAUCAUGGCCACCACUAGCAAGAAACUUUCCAUCCGACGAGAAGUGACAGCUAUUAACCUUGGUUGUGCUUGCUUUAACAGAGUGUACUUCCGUAAAUGUGAACCCUAAAGUCAAAUUCAAAUUCUGAGCCCUCAAAGUAAAUGAUAGUAGCUUCACCACAACCACAUUUAAAAACAUGUAUAUAUAUAUAUAUAUAUAUACACAUACAGAGUGCUUCCAUUGAGGGAUCCCUCAAAUAACUUAUUUGAGGGACACCCUUGUAGAGCCCAUUCCGUAUUGUAUUUUACUAAUCCAAAUCGUCUAUUUUGUAGAUAUUCAUUCAAAGAUCAUCUCUACAAAAAAUCACUUGAAUCCGAUAUCAUUUGACCACUCAAUUGAAUUAUUGAAAAUUUAGUACUUUCUUGAAGUGUGUUCAUUGAUUUUGUAGGACACAAUUGGAUGUUGAAACGGUUUUCGAUUUCUCUAAUUUUUUGCAAGGAUGAUCUAUGAAUGUAGACUUAAAAAAUAGAUGGUUUGGAUCGUUGAAAAAAAAUUCGUAGGGGACCUUAAAGGGUGUCCCUCAAAUAAUUUAGGGUCCCCUACGAAUAAAAUUAUUUGAGGGAUCCCUCAAUAGAAGGGGACUGUAUAUAUAUAUAAUGCUGGGAUUAUGCACUGACAUUGUUUCUAAGUUUGUGAAUGGCACAAUUACCAAAAACACAUGGUAGUUAAUACAAGUGAGAAAAAAAUUAAUGAAAAAAAAAAGAUGUUUGAUUGAGACUUGUGAUUCAAUACCUAUUACUUGCAGUGCCCCGGUAUUUUAUUAAUGUAUUUAUCCACUUAACAUUAGAGAAAUUGAAAAAGAAUUGCAAAAUAAUGAAGAAAAAUAUGGCAUAUACUACAUUCAGGAUGAUCUUAAACUAAAUAUUCAUUCAAUAAAAUGACAUCCAUCGCACCUUUGCUGACAUCCAUACAUCGACCAACAGCAUCUCUAGGGUCCACAUCAUCAUGGGAUAAAAAAGACUCGACAUUAUCAUCAAGAGAACCAUCCUCUACAAAUCGAUCCAUAUCAGCCUGCAAUUCAAGAUCUUUAUCAUCCCACUGCCAAAAUGGAAUUCCAAUGAGAAUACAUGCAAGGAGUUGCCAAUUCCUUCUAAUACACGAAGUUGAAGAAGUCGCUCACCAACUGAUUUGAUGGUGACGUAAGAGUCCCAGUACCAUCAGGGCCAAACAUCAUCAGAGGCUUGGAGGAGCUACCACUAUGGGGCAAGGCAGGCAUUGAGAUUACAUCUCCAGGAGUGUGCGUUGAGGGAGUUGAAGGGGCUGAACUCGGGGAAGGCCCAGCUGUGUUUGCUGUUCCCGUGCUAUUGGCAGGACCUGAAGAUGACACUGGCUGCUUUCUCUUUCUCCCAGCCUGGUUUUUUGAAACCUUAAUUGCAUUGCCAAAACUAUGUCAGGAACCUUCCCAAGAAUUCUAUAUAACAUAUAAAUUAAGUUGAACAGCAACCUUUCCCCCUCCCCAAAACAAUAAAAGGACAGACCUGAUCAUUUCCUCGAAAGGAGUUCGAGAUGCUACCAUCCAUAGUGAUACUACCAGCACCGCCUAUUUUAUCUUGCUGGUGGGGAUUGAGAUUUGAACUUUGCGACUGCUGAGCAGAAAGAUUAUGCUGCUGAAGCUGUUGCUGCUGCUGUUGUGGAUUACUGUUUUGUUGCUGGUGUAAAUGAGCCAUUUUUAACUACAAAUAAACAGGCACUCUCAUAAGCUAAAGGACAAUGAACUUUUUGAUAACAUGUGGAAGCACAGAGGGGGGAAACACCACCAUAUCGACUACAACUACAAGCAGAAGGAAAUCUACAGAGAUAAGAGCACCUUAAUCAGCAUAUCUGUAUCUCCACGAGGCAUAAUAGGCCCAGCAGCUUGAAGAGGUGAUCCCACAUCACCAACAGAAUUUGGAAGGCCAUCCUUCCCAAGACCCAUACUGCGAUUAUUCAUUAGCAUUCUUAGUCUUCUACUUUCAUCACUUGCAGAAGGUGAUGUCAAAUUUUGCUGAGCAAGCAUAAGUUGCUGCUGGUGUUGUGGUGUCAACAUCUGAAGCUGGUGAAAGGGCUGGGGAGCUUGUAUAAAAGGUUUUUGUUGCUGAAGAAGCCCACUGCGAAGCUGCUCCAAACCCUAACAAGGAGAAAAAUAAGUUGUAUAGCACUAAUGACGAGACUCUAAGCUUCACAGAUGCAUAUCAAACAAAGAAUAAAGAUUAUGAAUUUACACAAGAAUUUGAUCAUUUUGAGAUUCUCAACUUCAGAGAUAGACAACAACGAACAAUCGAGUUUCAAAAUUCAGAAAGAAUUGUCACUUUGAUGCAUUCAACAUAUAUAUUACCACUGUGUUAAUACAGGAUCGGAAACUAAAGAAAACAAAUUAUCCAAACACACACAACAAACUUUCUAAUUGUAGGAAACUAAAAAUCUAUCCAGCCAUCAAAAACUUACUGUGAGGGGCCAUCCUUUUAAAGUCAAAUUGUUACCACCCUGAUUUGAUCCUGAAACAAAAGACUCUUACACGUAAGCUACAAGCAUAAUUAUACAAUACCAACACAACCCUUUUAAACUCUUUGCAACUCCUAACUCCAAAAUUACUUUAGUAUGCCAGACUUAAAUAUAAAAAUGGCCAACAAGCACAGUGGAUCAUUCUGUGCCAAUGGUAUUCAAAAGAGUGAGACAUAGUCAACCAAACAUUGGAAAGGACAAGGCGAGAAUACCAGGAAUUCCUAUUAAUGAUCCCUCGGGGCAUGCAGCUCUGGGAUUCAAUACUGGAUUGAUUUCAGUCUUUAUGUCCUGAUUCCAUGUAUAAGUCAGAACACAUAAAAAGUACUAGGAAAAUAUAUAAUGAAACGAAGCAUACCGGUGUAGACCCUGGCAACUGCUGAUUUCGAGCUUGCACUUGUUGAGUCAUCCCACCAGCUGUACCAUGCAAUACUUGCCUGAAAAAUAAAGAGUUCACUGUUUUUAUUUUUAAUGUUGGUAGAAGGAUUUAGCAACAGCUUCCACAUCUAAAACCCUGGACCAAUGAGUAUGCAGACGCAGCAUAUGUAAUAACAUUCUACAAGUUUCCAUGGCAUAUGCAGGUCACACUUCUACUGUAAAUUCUAAAAAUACAAUGUUGGAGCAAUCCCAAAUUAACCAUCAACAAUAUCAAAAUGUCUUUUGUAAACCCUAAUUUCUGUGCAUUUAGUAGAAUAGAAGAUAAAAUGAUAAGUACAAACAAGUCCAUAUCGUUUCACAAACAAAUAAGAACAGUGGAAGAUAUAAAAUUUCAGAGAAAAGCACCCUGAAGGCUGGCCGGCUGCUGCAGCUGACUUUAAUAUUGAAGCAUGAUUUUGAUCCAAAAUCUGGCCCACAUUCUCACCAAAUCUCUGCUGUAGAUUGUUCCUAAUACAGUUAGAAAACUGUGAAAGUCAUUUUAUUCAAAAUAACAAGGAUAAUUCACCUACCUUCAUAGAUGCAUCAUCCAAAGAAUCUCUCUGAAGUGGAAGUUUUAAUUUUUCCUCGUACAUCUUUGUGGCCAUUGCAUUUGCUGUUCCAGGAUUUUGUCGCAUGAGAGGAUCAUUUCCGACAAGCCCAUUUGUAGUUCCAUUGAGGAAAUGGACCCCAUCUCUUCUCUGUUGUGGCUGUGGCUGUUGCUGUUGCUGCUGUGGCUGCUGCUGUUGUUGCUGCUGUUGUUGUUGCUGCUGCUGCUGCUGCUGCUGCUGUUGCUGCUGUUGCUGCUGCUGCUGAGCAUGCCUGUGCAACAGGAGCUGCUGCAUUUGCAUGUGCUGCUGCUGCUGUUGCUGCUGUUGUUGGGAGUGUUGGGGUUGCUGGGAUUGUUGCUGUUGUUGUUGCUGUUGUUGUUGUUGUUGCUGUUGUUGCUGCUGCUGCUGCUGCUCCCUUGCUUUAAUUAACUGUGUCUGCACUUGCAAUAUAUCAUGAGCUUCCAAUAGGUACCAAAUUUUUUUAUAAGUACCGUCAGAAAUUCUCAAAAUCUACUCCACCAUAGGUUCCUUGAACAAAGUAAGAAUAUCACUCCAAUAAGAGUAGAAGCUCAUUCCAUUUAAAAUGGUUUGUGGAGAAUGCAUAAAGCAUGAAAUAAGUCUCCACAUUACCAAACUCACCCUAUUCUUUUCUCUUCAAACUCACAUUGUAAAUGAUAUAUGGCCUACAGAAUAUACAAAACUAAUAGGCAAUAAGGCAUUCUCAAACUAACCUCAAUGUAAGAUGCAGCAACCUCUGAAUGCUUCUCAUUAGUCCUAGCAAUGAAUAUAUCCCAGAAAACUGACCACCAUUCAAAUAGGAAACCUCCCGGUGCAUCAAUAGCUGUAAACCCAUUCCCGAAAACAUUCAUAAACAAUAGCAACCAAAAAAAAAAGUUCAUUUCAAUAGUGAUAAGAAAAAUAAUUUCCAUCACUCAAAGGUUUUUGUACUCCUUAGGUCACAAUUUCUGAAGAUGCUUACCAACUGGAUCUGAGGAUACUUUUCCUUCAGCUUGAAAAGCUUGAGCAGAAGCUUUUAAAUCUCUCUUCACUAAAUAGUCGUGGAUAUACACAUCUAACCUGUUAGUCAAUCAGAAACAGAUGUUAAAGACUAUUCUGGUUAAUAAAAACCCAAAUAUUAGUACGAGUAAUAGAAUUAUAGAGAGCCCUUCGAAGAGAAGUAAUGCACUAGACAAGGCUAAGUCCAGAAACCCAAAUUCUACAGUAAGAAGUGAAGCAAAUUAGUUUUAAAAAUCAACAACUGCCCAAACUCAAAACCAUCAGAAGAAACAAACCCUAGAAUACGCACACUGACUGAAAUUAACAUAUAAAUAUAUGGAAACAGGAUAAAGAACAAAACCUGAAUCCAAACGGCUGCAGCAAGUAACAAAACCCAGAAAUCCCAGAAACCCAGAACCCAAAUCGACCAGGAAACAACAAGAGGGGGCCAGCAAAUGAGAAGAAAACAGAAACCCAGAUAGGGAACAGAGACAAAAAGAGAGAGAGAAACUGACCAAUCUGCAUAAGAAACUUACAUUUUAUCAGCUUCCCAGUUGGUCUGAGACAUUCUGUUGAAUGCAAUAACUCACCCGAGACUGAAUAAUACUGUCUGAUUCUGAGGUAACAAUCUUAUUCUGCUUCUUUUCAGCUCUGAAGCAUAUCAAAUCCAGAAGAGAAAACUGAUAAAUUUUUGUUACAAAAAAGGAAUGUACAGUAAGAGCAAGAGGGGGAAGAGAAAAGAUGUGGGGUGAACAUAUGCAGAACCUCUGGUUUUUUGCAAAGGAAAAUACAGAGACAAAAAAAAAUUGCACAUAUAUAAUUUUCAGCUGAUGUUAAUUCAAUAAAUGAAUAAAGAAAGGGAAAGAUGAUAGAGAUACCUUGAACCCAAAAAUGUUUAUUUUGUUUUUGAGCUUUAAUAUAGUAGUUGUUGUGUUCUUAUUUCAUCUUUUUUUACUUUUGUUUUUUCUUUUCAGGGUACUAAGAAUUUUUCUGAUAGUGUUGGACUGUUGGUGGAUUGAGCUGCUGUUGCAGAUAUCAUAAUGGUUUUCCCCAUUGAAUUUACUUAAUCAGCCCUCAAAUCCUGUCAAAUUUUCAACCUAAAACCAUUGAGUUACUGCAGAGCUUUUAGUUGGAAUGACUGAAAUACCCCUUCCUAUUGCCAUAUUUGCACUUCAUUGGGUUGAGUAAGUGGUGCGUUUGUAAUUUUGUAAAGCUAACUAAGAGUAAUUUGUAGUUACCAUAUGUAUUGAUCGCUUAAUUAGGAACAAGAGAGUAUUAUCGUUACCGUGAACUAGUAACAUCAGAUAGCGAUGUUUGAUAAUCGGUGACCUAAUUACUUUAAUGUAAGAGAUUUUCUCAAAUUUGAUAAUUACUUAUUUUAAUGACAAGCCCUAAGCUUUGGUCAUUUUGAUUCUCCUCUACACUUUCUAGAUUCUCUAUGCACUCAUCUCUUGUUAGGUGGCUAGCCUAACUAAAACUUUGAUCAUAUUAAACUAAGAAACAUUCAUGACCUCAAAAAAAUCAUGAAGCUAAUAGGGUUGUAAUAUUGGAUAUAGUUAGGUAUAAAUAAUGGUAGCCUAAGACUCAUCCAAAUGGGCAAAUCCCAGAUUCCAAGCUCCCAACAACCUUACAAAAUUCAAUCUUGUUGUCUAUCUUUUGUCUAAUUAGCAUGAUUGAAGAAAAGAUCUCUUCAAGCCAAUCUAGCAACUCACCUAGUCAAACUAGUCAAAUAAAAAUGGGCUUUUAGAUAAAAUUGCAAGCUAGCUUUUGAGUCUUCACAAAACAUUCUUUGUUGAUAAUUUGAUGCAUGCACUGUGCACAACCUGAAGACAUUGUGUCUUUUUAAGGGCAAGAAAGACAAGUACAUAGACUUAGGGUAAAAAGUACAGCAAGGCCAACUCUAUCUCAUGGUCUCACCCAACUGGUAUUUUGUUAUUUUAUUUUAGGCUAAAAGUCAUUUUUGAUCUCUGUACUUUGGCACUUUAACCAUUUUUGACCAUAUAGUUUCAAUUCUGUCAAUUUUGAUCAUGUAGUUUCGCAUUUGUAGCAAUGCAAGGACAAAUUAGUAUUCUUAUCAAUUUCUUUGAUGGUGCAAUGGGCAAUUUCGUCAACUCAAAAUUCUUGAGCAUAAAAGCUCGUCUAAGAAUCCCAUAAUACAUAUUAGGGCUUAAAAUUGGUCAUUUGGGUUUAGGAUUCUUCAAACAUUGGGAUUAGUAGUUGAAUUUCGAGCCCUAAUAUGGAAUAGGGAGAAUUUCAUAUGAGCUUUUAUGCUCAAGGGUUUUUGGUUGACGAAAUUGUCCUUUGCAUUGUUAAAGAAAUUGAUAAGAAUACUAACAUGUCCUUGAAUUGCUAUAAAUAUGAAACUAUAAUGGCAAAAUUGACAUACUUAAAACUACAGAGUUAAAAGUGGUUAAAGUGCCAAACUGCAGAGACCAAAAGUGACUUUUGACCUUUAUUUUAUUGUUAUUGCUAAUAAGUGAAAGUCUUGUAAAGGCACAUAUGUUCUGGGAAUUUUUUUUUUCCUGGGUUGCUGGGAAUAUAUUAUCUGAAAUUGUAAAUCUAUAUAUCUAUAUAUAAAAAUCAAAAUGCAAAGAAUGGUGAAACAUUCAAAAUAUAAAUAAAUAAUCUAUAGUUAAUACAAAUAUUAAGGAUUGAAAUUAUUAAUUAAAUGAAGAUAAUAUGGUAAAUUCAAACUUUUUCAUAUUUUUAAAAAAAUUUAAUUAAAACAAAAUCAGAUAAUCGCUCCUAUUUUUAUGGAACUCAACUACCUAUUUUAUCUUUCUUAAUUCUAAGAGAGUCAUGCCAAUUAGCGGCCUGUUUUAUUCUUGAUAAAAUUGCCUUAAUCUGGAACAAUGAAGGCAGGAGAUAGGGGUUUUAGACAAGUAAUUAUUUAGAUUGAUUCUCUUCAGAUUAUGCUGGCUCAAGUAACUGGAGAAAUUUACCCAUAUUCAUGCUAUUGCUAAUUGAGAUGGCUCCCUUUGUACUUUUUUUUUUUAUAGUUGUUCUAAUAAAAUCGCUUGUUAUAAUAAAAAAUAAAAAACCAACUGGCACAGGCUAAUCUAUAUAUAUAAAGCAAAAGGCAAAGAAUGGUGAAACAUUCAAAAUACCAGAAAAUGCCAUUGGUUAAUGCAAACAUUAAGAAUUCAAAUUAUUAAUUAAAUGAGGAUAAUAUGGUAAAUUCAUAUUUUUUCAUAUUUAAAAAAAUUAAAAGAAAAAGAAAAAGCAGAUAAUGGAUCUUAUUUUUAUGGAACACAACUACCCAUUAUCUUUUUUAAUUCUAAAAUAAAUUUACUUUUUUUUUUAAAAAACAUCUCGCAAGCGCGGAAGCGCGUGCAGAGAGGCUAGUAUAAAUAAAGCAACUUUUACAAACAGAAAAAACCAGGAUAGUGUAAAGUAGAAACUUUUUGUUCAUAUCCAGCACAAAAGAACUUUGGGAGAUUCCAUCAACUGACCAUAUCAUAUGUUUCAUUAGCUUUAUAUCACACUGAGAUCAUUUAAAUUUUUUUUAUUUUUAAAAAUACUGUUUUUGGGUGUUUGGGGAAGAAAGAGGCCAAGGAAUUUAGUUAUGGGAGCAAGAAAGAUAGUUUGUACUUAAAUUACAAAGAUGUCCAAAAGGGUCAACUCAGUGUCGGAAAUGGUUUUUUUUACUUUUUUCUUUCUGUGGGUUAAAGAGGGAAUGGCUUACUUUACUUUAAUAAUUGUAGCUCUGUGUUUCGAGGCUUUGAGGCUUUGACCAGAGAAAACCUACGUAUUUCUGAACAAAGAAAAACAGACCAAAGCAAAGCAUGUUGGGUCAAGUCCAGAAACUUCUUCACUUUCUUAUCUUGGUUUUAAAAAAAUAAAGUCAAUUUUAGACCAAUCAGGAAAUAGCCAUUUUGGAGUAACAAAUAAAUAUAAAAACUUUGUAUUAUGACUAAACUGCCCCCAAUUCCAACUUCAUUUAAAUUAUAAUAAAUAAAAAAAGGCCCAAGGGUGCUACAACAAAGUGCAAACAGUUUGGGUCAUCGUGAAGAGAUUGAUUGGGUUGGUCGGGCCAUCAUUGGGUUUGGGUUAGGUUUAGGUUUUUCUGAUUGGAAAUUGGAACUGGGCCUUCAACGAAGCUUGUUGAUGGGCCCUAACAAUCGACCUCUUUUUCAUUUGGGGAUUGGGUUGCAGGUAUGAAAAUUACGUAGACCAAACGUCGUCUGCACUUUUACAUAAAUGGUCUGUCAAACGACCUCAAUCUUAAGUGCAAACAAUAAGAAUUGCACCUCCAAAUUCAUACAUUUUUCUGAUUUGCACUUUACCGUUUGAUAUGUGGUGGAUUAUAUGACUGAAUAUGAUUCAUAAUCCUAGUUAAAUGUUUAGUGGCCUAAUUAAAAAUAAACUGAAUUGGAUUGUGUCUAUUUUUAUUGGGGCAAAAUGUGGUCGGAUUACGAAUCCCACUAAAACAACCUAAUUGGAAUUAAGUUAGAUUGUAUGUCUAACCUUAUACUAGAGCAUGUGAUAUCAUAUUUUAGUUCAUUCGACCCCUUAAUCAUGUGGAGUACCAAAUACAUUAUUGAUUAAUUAUUAUCCUUUCCAAUCCAGUUAUACUUCGUGAGUUCAAUCAAAUCAGAGUCACAAAACAUAGAGUUGGACAAAAAAUACUCUUUAAUAAGCGUUAAAUUACAAUUAGCAAUAUAUCAACAUAUAUAUAUCUACGUAUUUGUUGAAGAGAAAAGCAAAAUCCCGACCGAAAAAACCAAAAGCAAAAGAAGAGAAAAAGUAACAUAAUUGGUCCCAAAUUGAUCAUAAACAAAAAGAAUAAGGUAGCCAUUGAAGUGUCUCUUCCCUUUAACAUUCUCUCGGUCAGCAAAGUAAGAAGAAAGGAACAGCGUAAAAAAAAAUUUGACAAUACUGCUGAUGCAGAAAGUACGUAAUAAUAAUAAACAAAUAAACCAUGAUAUAUAUAUUUGGGAGAUUGAAUAAUUUAAAAGGGCAGGAAGAAGUCAAGAAAGGGUGGUCAUUGAGAGGUCCUUCUCUUCUCUUCCAAUGCUAUGAUGCAUAGUUUUCUAUAUCUAUAUAUGCAUAGCUUGCUGCUCCCAGUGUGUUGUAUAUGCAAAAAAUGUGUCAGCUUGAGCUAAGCUGCUGCAAAAGCAACAUGCCACUGAGAUCCAAGUGGGCCCCGGUUCAUCAAAGGAAGAAGAGAAUUUCUCUUCUCUCUUCUCUCUGUGGGCCCUUCGUCGUCAUCAUCUCAUAAAACUUCCAGGAAUUGGAUAUGCCAUAAUUAUUUGAAGUUAUAUACAUACAAUGAAACUUAUUGCAUGGGGCUACGGGGAAGAUGGCAUGCAUGCAGAAGCAGUGAUAUCAGUGCAUUUGCAUGCCAUGUCAUGCCAAGCUAUACUUUCAUGGAUACGCCCAGCAUCUAACUUUGAGUCUGAGUCAUAUGCAUCAUUUAUGCCCCCACAACAACACAACCCAAAUUCCCCAUGCCUCGUCUAUCUGCUGUUUUAUUGCAUACGCAUGUGACCUAUAUAUAUAUAUAUAUAUAUAUAUAUAUGGACCCAGUUCCUCCUAGGUCUUUAAUUACAUUACAUAAUAUAUAAUACUUAUGCCUUAUGUGUAUUGCAUAAUAUUUUCAGUCUUUUAUGUAUUGGAUGGUGGUGUACUCGGAAGAUAGAGGUGGGAGCUGACUGUGUUAUUAACUUUUUUUAACUUUGUUUUAAAUUUAUAAUAUUUAUAAAUUGUACUUUUAAUAUUUUUGUGGGUAAAAAGUCCAAUUUACUUUUAAAAUUGGAGCAUGUGUCAUCCACGCGAUUUAGCUUAACGAAAAAUUGGACGGUAGGACUGUUUUGAUAUCAAAUAAAGAGUUGAAGGACAAUUGAAAUGAAAAUUUUAGUUAAUAGACCAAAACAAUACUAAAGCAAAAAUUAGGAAACUAUUUCGAUCAAAAGCCGUAUGGGUUGAUCAUACUUGUUACAGUUUUGCAAUAUACAAUAAUUUAGGUUUGUACUUAUAUUAUUAAAGAAGAACAUUUAUUUUUUAAUUUUAUAAUAUUUAUGAGAUGCAUUGAAUUUUUAUAUGACAUCACGUAAUUGAAUUUGAUUGUUGAUGCAUUAUGAAGACCAACAGUGUUAAGAAUCUCUAACAUGAGUUUGAGAGGCUCGCUCUAGCACAAUUUAUCUAUUACUUUAUUAUCUAAGAGCAUUCGUAAUGGUUGCUCAACAGUUCAAUUUAUUGAACUUUUUUGGUAGCUAUUAAACUGAACUGCAGUUUCACUUGCAAUGGCUGUAACACCCCGACUUCAAAUUUAACCCCUUAUUUAAAUUAUUGAGUAAAAUUACAAAUUUACCCUUGGGGUAGGGGUAUUUUGGUCAUUUUCUUAUCCAAAAGGAGUUUGGGGCAGUGACAAGUAUUUUUGGAUAGAUCGUACUAAGAUGAUUCCGUAGACACGUGGUAAGCUCGAAUCGGAGUUGUAACAAGAGAGAUAUGGUCAAAAGAAACUCAGUGGCACAAUCGUAAAUAUUUGGAAGUGGGAUUUUUUUUAUAAAAAUCAGAUUUCUCUCUCUCUCUCUCUCUCUCUCUCUCUCUCUCUCUCUCUCUCUCUCGCUCGCGCAGUGGCAGACAGCCACGUUUUGGCCGGCCGUUCUCUCCUCCGACCACCAAUGACGACGGGGCUGGUACCAAAAUGACCGGGCCGUCGUCCUUUUCCAUCCCCAGCAAGCUCCCGCCUCCAGCCGCCGCGAUUUCGCCGAAAAAUGGAGAAGAAGCGGCCGAUGUUGUCCGAACUUCUCUGCCAUCGAUCUCCCUCCUCCGGCCACCGAUUCCAAUGAGUAAGGUAUGGUUUCUCACCUACUUUUCAUGCUCUAGCUGCCUGUUGGGUAGGAUUCGAUCGAUUUUUAGCGUAGGUAAUUCGAUUUAUGAAUUGAAAUUCGCCCGAUUUUGGGAUCGCGAUACAGGCCACCUCCGGUUAGUUUUUGGGGUAGGUCCAAGAACAAAAGUGGCUCCAAAUAGGGUGUUAUACCUAGGGUAGGAGUUUGGGGCCGUGAUUUUGAGAUUUUCCGGCGAUGCGUAAUCGCUUUGGGCACCCAGUGCUGCCGGCCCGUGUGGCAGCGCAUGGGUGAGGGUAGUGAAGUUUCACUGUGUCUUGAUGAGAUCCUUAGGUUGUCACGAGUGCGUAGGAUUUUGCGGAUCUCAAUUCGGACGUCGUUUGACUAUCGAACGGAUAUCGCCUAUUGCGCGUUAUCCAGGUUCGAUAGGUUAGGACCGUUGGAUGGUCUCAAAUUUAAUAUAUGUUAAUCUAGGUAUUUCUAGGAUCGUGUAAGAAUUCACGGAUUUCGAAUCGAAGCCCCGGAUGUUCCGAUUAAAUAAUUUGAAGUUUAUGUUUUAUAAUAACCGUCAGAUCGUGCGAUCGUGAGCGAUCCAACCUUCCGAUCUGGACCAAACUUGCAAGACGAGUGUCCUAUACCUUGUAGAACCCAUAGGAACUUUCGGAUCGAAAUUUGGAGGUCGUGGGCCCCGUGGGCCCGUUUGACCAGGGUUAGGGUAGUUUGACCUUUGGUUGACCCUGAGUCUCCCGAAGUAAUCUCACCUUCCCAAGGGCCCUGGUUGUACAGGCGUAUGGGGAGAUAUUGUGAUAUGAUGUUCAGGUCUCACGUGGCGUAGGUUAUCCGGCGUUGAGACAGACCCUAUACGUGGCGUUGGUUGUACCGGCGUAUGGGGAGAUUAUGUGAUAUUAUGUUAAGGUCGCACGUGGCGUAGCUUAUCCGGCGUUGAGACAGAUCCCAUAUGUGGCGUUGGUUGUACCGGCGUAUGGGGAGAUAUUGUGAUAUGAUGUUCAGGUCUCACGUGGCGUAGGUUAUCCGGCGUUGAGACAGGCCCCAUACGUGGGGUUGGUUGUACCGGCUUAUGGGGAGAUCUUGUGAUAGUAUGUUGAGGUCGCACAUGGUGUAGGUUAUCCGGCAUGUUGACAGGCCCCAUACGUGACGUUGGUAGUACCGGCGUAUGGGGAGAUAAUGUGAAAUACAGAGAGAUGAAUAAAGGUAUUAUAUAUGCUUGGAAUCGGGUUUCAGUAGGGAAGAACUACGUGUGGCUUGAUCCCUCAAUGAGGGUACGUAGGCAGCCUAAAAUUAUUAGGUGCAGCCGGGGACGUAGAGGUGGUUGUGUUAGGAGGUUAAAACCUUGUAUGUUGGAUUUGGAAAAGUUAGAUGAUGUACGUUGUAGUUAAUAUUCGUAAUUCAUAUUUGAAUGUAUUGUUUGCCUUGUUUAAGGUAUGAAUUGAUUUGAUAGUGUGCUUGGUAGGUUGUUGAGAAUUAUUGGUAAGCCGAAGGCCCUUUUUGUGAAUUGCAUGAAAUUAUCUUGUACAUGCUGCCAGUUGGGAAUAUAAAUUGUGUUUUAUGCAUGUUGAAAUUUGGGGCAAAUGUUCAAUUUACAGGAGAGACUCCGCUGAAAUUUCUGCCCAUUUUGGAAAAAAAGUAUAGUUUUAGAAGUGGGCCCGACAUCGGGGUGAUGUCGAAAAUUUCCACAUGAUUCUUCUCGGGUUUUGGGAAAUUCGGGGCUGGUCCUUUCUAUGGUGCAGUUUAAUAGCUUACAAAAUAAAAACUAUAUUUUAAAAAAAUAUCUUUUUAAAUGAUUGAAUAAAAUAAAAUGAAUAAAGCUAAUUACGAUAUGAAUUAUACAAUUACAAUGAUUUCAAAUAUAAGUCCCGAUCUCUUGGACCACAUGAGUCCAAGAGAUUUGUGGUCACCCACCAUUGGAUGUAAAUUCAAUGGUUCAAAAAAGUUUGAUAAUAUUAUAUUAAUACUUUUUUUUCUAAACAAUUGGAAGUUGAGAUUAAAUGAGAACACAUUAGAGCAUCUCUUUUUCAAGUUAUUGCAUAACAAAAUUUAAUAUGAAUAAGCAAAAUUAAAAAGUAAAACGUAAUGUUGUCCAUGUGUCAAUAAAAGAGAGGAUAUAGAUUCAUUAUGAUGGGUCAGCUUAUUAAAAUGAAUUUCAUUUCAGAAUUUAUUUUACUGGCCUCUGAAAUGAACUAUUGAUCCAUAGAAUGAAAUAUUGAUAUCUAAAAUAAACUUUACCACUGUAAGUCAAAAGUUCAAUUUAUUGAAAUAAAAUUGAAAUGAACCUCACCAUUGCAGAUGCUCUAACAAUCAAUUCAUUGCUAGACAAAAUUCCAAUAUUUUAUUACAGAUGAUGAACACUUUAUAUGGUUUUACUAAAGUGUCAAUAUCAUUGUCAAUAACACAACGCAUUAAUAUGUUAUGUCCUCGCCUUGCAAACAACAUACAUCUUACACAGACCAAUUUAGCAAGAAUACAUUUUUCUUUUUUUGCAAUUGCAAAUCAUUUAUACAUCAUGGGUAGGGACAAUAAAUUCUUAGCUUUUAUCAGAGAGGGUAAGUGAAUGUGAGAGAAAGGGCCAAGAUGGGUGGGGAUCAUGACAUCAGGUGUGGAAUGCAAAGAGGUAAGAAAUGAAUCUAACAAGAGAUCAGAUUCUGAGAUACAGAGAGAGAGAGAGAGAGAGAGAGAGAAGGUGUUCAAUCAACCAUGCAUUCUGUCCUUCCCAGUCCUCUCUCUUUCUCUCUCUGGCUCUUGGCUCUGCUGCCUUCCUCUCUCUCUUUCUCUCUGCAAAAUGCGUCAGUAGCAGUACAGAGUAGAGAGAGAGAGAGAUACACAGAAGAAAGCGUGACGUAAGUACUGAACACCGUAACGCGUGCUUUGGAAGCGUGCGAAGUGGGAUUUCGAAUUCAAUGUCAGACACAGAGAGAGAGAGAGAGAGAGAGAGAGAGAGAGAGAGAGAGAGAGAGCUAGGCGCUAGCUUGCUUUUACUCUCUGCUUGGACUUUUCCACCCCAUCUAUCCAUAUUCACCGCAUUGUCUAUAUAUGGCGGCAUAGAGAGAGAAGAAACUGGAUAUUUAUUUUGAUGAUAUUUGUAUUUGAAUAUGUAAUUUGAUUUCAUAAUAAAAUUUAUUUAGGCAUGCAUGGGAUGGGAUGGGUUUGCAAAUUGCAUGGCAGUGCAUCAGCUACAGAGGAUGCAGAGAGAAAGAGAUGGAAGAAGGCAAGGCAGAGCUGUCAAUCGGGUUUUCUCUGAGAGCUUCGUACGAUCAUCUCCUGUAUAUAAUAACAUCAAUAUGCAUAUGGGAAGAAGAGGGCUCAGAGCCCCAUCAUUGUCUCAAUUAUCAGAUCCUCCUCAGUACGUGAGAUUGGCCUUUUAACCUCUGCCCUUGUGUGUCGUAUAUAUUAUCUUUUGAUGCAAACUGGUGCUGCCUAAAGAUUGCCUAAUCUAAUUAUUUGCCUUAUAGUACAUUGCAUGUUGGCGUACUAUAACUUGUAUACACAGUAAUUAUUGUGCGAUUGUUAUAAGUUGCGUGAUAUCACGAGACAUGACGGUGUGACGAACGUUACGCUUGAUUACUUGAAGUUUAUAACCAACAUCUUUUAUGUUAGUAUUUUCUUUAAUGUAGUGUGGUCCAAUAUAAUUAGCUUUAAAUAAACAGCUAUGUAUCUCAAGAUGGAAAACAUGGAAACAUGGAUAUCGAAAGUAAAAUAAUGGGAAUAUGAAACAAAUCAUACAAAAAACAUACAUCAAGAAAAUGAAGGUCUCAACCCCCUCACGCAAGUAUUUGACAUGAAUUCAAGGCACAUAGUAAGGUAAAGCAAAAGAAUCAAAGGAGCAAAUCGGUGUGCUUGGAAUUGAAUUGCUUCUGAAAAUUCAAAAGCAUUAAUGGAAUUUUGUUUUGGAAGACCGAGGACUUCAUUUGAUGAUGUGACUGUGAUGGAAAGCUGGCAGCUGCACAGUAUUUAACUUUGAUGUUUUGGCAAUUAAAAUAAGAGGAGGCUGCAGCAUUUGCUGCAUUUGGUGCAAGUAUUAAUUAAUUAGAGUUUGAAAAUGUAGCAAUCUUUCUCUAAAUGGCCCAACUGAAAGGGCAUGCACGUGUAAACCUACUUUUUACCAAAAUUACGGCAGGAGUUGAACAAUCAACAUUCAAGAUUGUAGUUGUAUUGGGUAAUUAUUAUGUCUACACACAACACUCGGAAUUUUACCAAAGUCUAUAUUUGUAUGUGGGUUCAAAGACCAAACUUGACAAAGGGGUGAAAGUAAAAGAAAAGAAAAUGGAGCUCAUUCAUUGAGCAUAUACCUACACGUUUGUAGACUGCCAAGAAUGGACCAAGAGAGGCUAUAAAUAUGAGAAAACGUGAAAGAGAAUUGUGUAAGUGUAAGUAAACAGAAAGUGGCAUGCAUUCCACUACAUGUUUUGUAAGAUGGAUAUGUCUCUCAUUAUUAUUCAAUGGAGAGUGGAGACAGCCACAUCAUCAGCUCAGCAUCAAAACGCACCGCAUAGCAACAUUGCAUAUAUAACAUGUUUACUAAUCCUCGAAAUCAAAGUAAGGAGUUUGAUUUCGAUUACGGAUUACUCAUGUGUUUACUUCACAUAAAGGAAUCACAAUGCAAGUGACGCUCAUACAAAAUUAGGAGUUGGAAGAAUUGGGCUCUUGGGUGGGAGGUAUCAAUUCUUGGAUAACUAACCCAUCAGGAAUCCAUCAUUUUUACCAAUUAUAUCCUCACACAAUUUUAAAUUUUCAAAUUUGUCAUCCAUUUUAACUCAACAAGAAGGGCAUUUUAGUAAUCAAACUUGUUUCAAUUUUGAUUCAUGGGAUUUUAGUAAACGACUUAUAAGGAAAUCAUUCAUACCUUGAUUCCAUGUAGUUUAGUAAACAGUUUCAAUUAGAAUAUGAAUUCUAAUUCCUUCUCAAUUCAAUUCAUCCUUACUCAAUUACGGAUUAGUAAAACAUGUCAUUAAUUUGACCUAUAUUCAAUUCGGCUUCUUAGUUUAAACCAUAAAUUAUAUUUCUCCUAACGUUAAUAGAAAUCUCAAAUUCAAAAUUCAUCUAUUUCGCUGAAAAAUUAAAUAGUUAAAUGCUCUAACCUAUAAUAAUAAAAGUGAGCAAGUUUUAUAUUACGUUAUGUGAGAUGAGACUAAUCUUAGUCCAUUCAUUUUAUGAGCUAUCAUUAGACUUUGUCAUGUUUGGUGACUAGUAUUUGAUUGGAUUGGAAAAGUUAUUAAAUCCAAGGUAUAUUGGAGGAGGAAAUGAAGGUAAGGAUGAAUGAGUUUCCAUGUUGGGGGAUUAGGAGGGAUUAGUUAUAAGGUGUUGUUAUCCUACAAUUUUGUAGGAAUUAGAUGGGAUAAAUUUUUUUAAUAAGUAAUCUAUCUUCUACAUUCAAUUGGUACAUUUCUUCCUUAAACAUGUUUUAAAUGUAAGGGAGUAUCCAAUCCAAUCUAAUACUAGUCACCAAAUACGAAAAUCAUCUUGGUUAAACCAAAAAGAAAUGCACUCCUUCCUUAUCAAAAUGAUAAGAGAGAAAUUACACUCGAGAAGUGAAUAAUGACAUUUUAAAAAUAAAAAAAACCAAUGGCAUCACUUUAUAUUUUUGUUGAACUUUAUAAAUUUCAAUCCAAUAACAAGCCUCAGAGCAAAGCAUAAUCACCACAUGAACAUAGCUCUGCAAAACGAUUUAGAGAGUACCAUAUGGGCACUUAAGAUCAUAAAAGAACAUUUGUUCAACUAAGCUUAUGUUCAUCAAGCCAAACAUGCUUAUAUCUCCUUAUUGUAUAUCAGCUGACCCCAAGAUUGGAGUUAGAUAUACCAAUCAGUUUUGCCUAGCAUGACCAAAAUUAAAUAGUUUGAUAUGAUAUUGAUAAGGUGUCGAUAUCAUUAUCAAUAACAUGUUAAUGACCAAACAUAUCCACAAUAUGGAAAAAAAAAAUCUGUGAAGAUAUGUAUAUGUAAUCCACUAGUUGCACUUAUUGCCAAAAGGUAAAGGGAUCGAUCAAAACUAAGAAACAAGAAAUGUAAGGUUUGGAAGAUGACAAUUCAUGUACCAACAAUCCCCUUAAAACUGAGAUAUAUGAAAUGAUCGAUGAUAGUGAUGCUAUAUAAUGUUUAAUUUGACUUGUAAUUAGAGCCUUGCAUAUUUGUCACGACUUGUGGAGCUAAAAAUACAUUCUAUUUCUGAAAUUGUUUGUACAAAGCUAAGGAACAUACAUGUGACGGAAAGGAAAUCUAAGCCCCCAAGCAAAAUUGUUACAUAUACAAACCCAAAAAAAAAAAAAAAAAAAAAAAACAGAUAAAAAAAAAAGAAGAGAAAAUUGAAGCACAAGCCUUGCUAGCUAAAGGUAAAUAAAAUCGCCAACGGAGUCUAGCCGAGUAGAAAAAGCUUUGACUUGCGGACCAGAAGUCUCAUGUUCAGAUCCCCACAGCAUCAUAGUUGUGUGUGAAAAAUUCUCAUCCCCCUAAUUUAGACUAUCGCUUGUACUAAGUUAAAUAAAAAUCAUUAUCCCCUGUCAACACCACUAACUCAGAGAAUAACCUAAUUUCUCACCUUUUUUUUUUCUUCCUUAUUUUUUUUUUAUACAACAAGUCAAUAUUGUUAAACAUUAUUUCAGAAGAAUAAUAUGGGAAUUACAAGAACUCCUGCAGUCUUUGUUUGUCUUCCAAAGUUGAGCAACGUCGUUGGCAAUCUCAACAGCAUCAGAGGCCGUUCCAAGAAGCCCUCUUCUUGUGAAGCCAACUGUGUAAAGUCCUUCACUUCCUCUCCAGCAGUCAGGAAAGGGUGUUUUGGGCAUGCCAUCUUUGGUGAAAAAAUCACAACCCUGAAAUUAAAAUUAAUAAUUUUAAUAAUUUUUUAAAAAAAUAUGCAUACUGCCUGAGAAGUAGCCAUCAUACAUGAAGAGGCAAACCAAAAUGCAAAAAAAAACCCGACUUGUUUUAUUCUUUUUUGCAUGGAGAAAAUAAGGGUUUUGUAGGUGUAUGUGGCAUGUGUCCAAGAAAGAAAGUGACAGGUGAUGCAGAAAAAGAUAGAAGUAAAUACUAAAAAAAGUUGCAGCUGGGCAUUGUCAAGCUUACCUUGAGCCAAGUAGGCACAUUGCUUUUGUACCCAGUUGCUAAGAUUAUAGAAUCAAACUCCUUUUCCUGUCCAUUCAUAAAUCUGGCUCCAUUUCUUGUUAUCUCUUUCACACCUUCCACCACCACCUGCAAUACCAACAAGUUAGCUAUGAAUCACAAACCAUUCUUUUUGGUUUCCUUUUUGGGUUGGUUAAAGGCUCAAAGCAAGUACCUUUAUUUUGCCAGAUUUUAUCUGUGACAAUGCUCCUACAUCAAGCACGGGGGUUUUUCCUGUGGCAUUUUUGAGCUCAAUUGGACCAGUUUUUGGCCUCCUGAGGCCUAAUUGGUCUGUGUUGCCUAGGAUGAUUGUGGCCAGUAGCAAGAGGACCUUGUCAACAAGUUUCAACGGCAGCCAUUUGAGAAGUGCCAUUGCAAUUCCAAAGGUUGAGAAACCAAACAUCUCUCUUGGUAGAACAUGAACCUGUGGCAUCAAAAUUGCAAACAUAAAUCAACAAAACCCAGAAAAGAAAAUUAUGCUGAAACAAUGUAGAGAGAGUGGAGGCUUACAGUGUUUCUAACAACCAUAUGAGGAUUUGCAUUGUGUCUGCAGAGGUCUAGGCUGACUUCCAUGCCAGAAUUUCCACAGCCAACAACCAAAACUCUUUGGUUUUUGAAAUCAGAGCCAGAUUUGUAGAGACUGGUGUGAAGAAUAGGGCCUUGAAAUUUCUCCAUCCCACCAAUUUCUGGUAUCGCAGGCUCAGCAUUCUCACCUGUGGCCACAAUAAGCCACUUGGAAAUGUACUCAAAAUCUUGAGUCUUAACCCUCCAAAACCCAGAAUCAAACUCAGCACUCUGAACAGCUUGGUUGAACUUGGGCUUGAUUGAGAAGUGUGAAGCAUAGGUUUCCAUGUAGGAAAUGAACUGGAAUUUUGUUGGGUACCUUGGGAAAUCUUCAGGGAAGCCCAUGAGUGGAAGCUCACAGAAUUGUUUGGGAAGGUGAAGCUUGAGGCGGUCGUAGGUCUUGUGCUGCCAUAGAGAAGCUAUGCAGUCACUUUUCUCAAGAAUUAGCGAAGGGACGCCAUGGUUGGAGAGGCAAGCAGCUGCUGCAAGACCAGAUGGUCCUGCGCCUACAAUUAUAGGCCCUUGAACAAACCCACAAUUUGGUUGUUGUGGGUUUUCUUGUUGGUUUUCUUUACAAGAACCCAUGUAGGAAAAUCCCAAGAAAAGUGAGAGAGAGAGAGAGAGAGAGAGAGGCUUAAAGAGGGAAAGGGAAAGAAACCUUUGUGUUUCUUUUUACUUGCUCUGUUUUGAAGACUCUGUUAAGGCUCUGUUUCUUUCACUCUGUUUUGCUGAGGAAAAGAAAAUCUUGGGGGGUGGAUGGAUGAGGUGGGAAGGAAUUUAAAGAGGGUGGGAUGAAGGGUUUAGGGAAGUUCAAUGCAAAGCGAAUCAGCGGUCUGAGAUGUCUGAGGACUGAUGAGGACCUUUUAAUGCAUAGAGAACAGAGUAAGCAAAUAAAUAAAUAAAAAAACCAGAGUUAUUAUGAGAAGUGAUAGGUAGAGAGAGAAACAGAGAGAAUGAGAGAGAGAGAGAGAGAGAGCGGUGUAAUGGAGGCGUGAAGGUUAAGAAAAAGGAUUUGGUUCUCUUUCUCAAGGCUUCCUUCUCAGCUCUCUGUGUGCAGAGUUUUUGGGAGGGUAGAAGUUGUAGUAGUAGGCAAUGGGGCGAAGGGGAGGUAUAAAUACAUUUAUGGGGGCUUUUAAUUUAAGUUGAAUUUUGGAGCAUUGGACAUGUCCCACUCGCACUUUACAACAUCGGUUUGUACCCUCUCUGGCCAGUUCUUGUUUGGCCUCUUCAAACAGACAUCGGCCAGCUGAUUGAAUUUAAACAUGUAAAUACCCAGUGAGAAUGACUAAAGAUGGUGGGUACAAAGAACGGGAGAUGGAGAUAAAAAAGUGCAUAUUGAUCAUCUAGUAUGUGAAGGAGAAAACGUAUAAACACCCUACUUUUGAAGCGAUAUGAGAUUAGAUUGUUAUCCAAGUUUAUAUGGCACAAUAAUUUGAUUUAGAUUCCAUAUGAGACUAUUAGGGCGAUCAAAACUCAAAUCGGUCAGAUCAAUUUCUUUCAGUUUUUUACAAGGAACACAAUUGUUAUUUACUAAUUAGUUUGAUUCUUGGUUUGACAAAAACUCAAAAUCCAAUAAGCUUACAAGUCAUUCAAAAAAUUAAGGGAGUAGUUGUUGCACCGCAGGAAGCAGCGGUGAGGAAUAUUUGCUUGUGUCAACAGCCGUCCGAUCGCGUACUAUUGCGCCACGUGGCAUAACUCUUGCCGUCAAAGUAACAACACGAAAAUGGUAUUACAACAUUUUGAUGUCGAUUGCAUUUUAAAAAGUAAUUUUACUAACAACUUGGGAGUGAGAUGAGAUUUGGACCCUUAUGUAGCCUUUUUUUUUUAGUGAACUCCUAUAGUGGUUUAAAGCAGUACAUUAUAGUCAUGUGCUUUUUUCUUUUCUUUUUCGAAAAAAGUUUAGGGAAAGAUUGGUCACUCUCACCACCAGCGUUAGGGCAAAUUCACAACCUCAAGUCGGAAUGAUUUGUGUGUGGUAUCCAAUUACCAAUUGCCAAUGGUAUGGAUUUAUGCAGGGAAUACAGAUCUCCAACCAAGGAAGACUACUAGAAGAGGGACUCGAACACUGAUGGGGUUACGCACAGUGUAGGGACCUUAUUAACUGAACCAACCCUUGUUGGCAUAGUCAUUUGUUCUUCUUUUUUUGGGGGGGUAAAUGUCACGAGGUGUCCCCACACCCGAAGGGUAGAAUUAAUCCCCGCUCGAGGUUCAGCUUGCUACUGGCCACACAGUGCUUUCAACGAGUUUCGAACCCCUGCUAUUGAAGUACUAGGUAGCUGGCCAGUUGAAGGUGGCAGUUUGUCAAUCCCACCACACCUUGCAGUUUAGUCAUGUGCUUUUAAUUACAUAACCAAGUUGAAAUUUUGGGUGGACCAAUUCCAUGUUUUUUUAAAAAUAAUUUUUUUUAAUUGUAGAUGUAGAUUAGGUCAAUUAACCACAACCCAAGUAAAUUAAAAUAAUUUUGUAUAGCUUAAACUAUAAUUUAUAUAAAAUAAAAUGAUAAUCGUAACUAAAAUAUACAUAUGUGUACAUGUACAUAAUUUUGUAUUAUUAUAAGAAUAAAAAGAAUUUUUUUUAUAGUUAUAGAUGUGGAUUAGGUCAAUUAAUCACGAUCCAAAUAAAUUAAAAUAAUUUAAUACAGUUUAAAUUAUCGUUGUAUAAAAAAAUGAUAAUUGUAACUAAAAUAUACGUAUGUGUACAUGUAAAUAAUUUUUUACUAUUAUAACAAUACUAUUGUUUUUGGUAAUGGUACUUGUAAUAAUAAUAAAAUACUUUUACUUUAAAAGUUAAACAGAUGGCAGUCCUACAAUUUUGUCCAUUGAUAUAAUUAACAUGAAAAAGGAAAGUUUUGUUUUUUUGGAAACUUGUUGUCUCUAAUUAUUUAUUUUGAUAACUCAGUUAUUAUAUUUAAAAGAAGAAGAGGCUCCAAGGGAGGAACACUUUCCUCGACAUUGGGAAGAAAAUGAGUAGAGUCAUGAGUGGUUUGGUAUCGGUUAUGUAUUGAUGUGAAGUUGUUGUCAUGUAAAAAUGUUGCAUGAAAAAGUUCAUAAUACAGAUAAAAAGAUAAGAGACCCGACCGAAAAUCUAAAAAUCCCAACAUUUAUAUUUUGUCUUUGGAGGCCAAAAGAUAUACAUGCUGUCAUUUGUUCCCUACCCUCUUGUUCUUUUGCUGCCUCUAGCAUGCCAGCUUUUUGUAAUCACAAUUAAAUUAAAAGUUGACUAAAACUCUUUGUCACAUAUAGUUUGAUUUUAUUAAUUAUAUAUUGGAAGAAGGUAGUGAGUUAGGUAGUUAAGAGCAUUCAUAAUGGACUCUCUAAAUCACUUCCUUAAAUUGGGAAAAAUUGUAAAAAUGCAACUUCAACCACGCUCCCUAUUCACCUCCUAAAAUAAGGAGCCCUCUAGGAGUUUCUCCCUAUAAUUUAAUGCUGCUUUAUUUAAUGAGAAUUUCAAACCGUUAUUUAAUGCUAACUAUUUUUAAUUUUAGAUCUUAUUUCAUGCUAACUAUUGUGGAUGCUCUAACUUCAUCUGUACGAUAAGAGAACACAUAGUUUGGUCUUAUUAAUUAUAUAUUAAAAUAAAGUAGUGAAUUAAGUAGUAACUUGACCUGUAUGAUAAGAGAACACAUAAAUUCUUAUUUUAACCGACACGAUAUGAUGAAGGAACGUAUAUAAUUUUUAAAAUUUUGGUAGGCACAAUAGACACAUGAGGAUUGCAUAUACUCCUAGCUAACGCACCAUCUAAUUAAGACAAUUAAUGUCGAUGUGUACUUGUCGAAAGUUGGCAAGACAAUCAAAGGACAAGAAGAAGAAUAUAUGUUUAGGGGUCAAUGAGGAAAUAAGAUCCCAAUAACCUCAAUGCAUGAUGGUGUUUGGAUACGAGGAUCUAAGGGAGCUAGAAUGGAUUCAAUAUAAAAUGAAAUGCACAAUCUAGGUUAGAGAAAUAAAAUCUAGGGGAAAUAUCUUUAUUCUUCAUGGAAUAUACACUUAGUUGGAGCGCAUUAGUUUCAGUUGCUAGCCAUGGCCUACUAUUUAUCAUAUUAAUUUGUCUUUCUUCAAUCUUUACACCUGUUGAUUUCUAAUUAAAGCACUAGGCAUGCAGGGCAGCUUGGAGUUUUGCAAAAUGGGGACAAUUUGCUGACCUCAUCUGAAUCCACAUAUAAUUUUAAUUUUUUAAGUUGGAUUUAAUCUUCUCGUCAAAAGAAGGAAAAGAACUUUCUUAUAACGGAGAUAACACUGUUUUGUUAUAUCCGUUGUUAUUAGUCGGGAAUAGUAAAAAAUGUUAUUCACGUUGUAUGAGAGUUUUUCUCAACAAAAAAAAAGGUAAGGCUAAUGAUUACAUAAUCCAAAUUACCCUAAGUUGGCUAAUGAAUAUCUGAUUAUUAGUUUCUAACUUAUUAUAAACCCUGAUGUAACAUAAAGAAUGAAAUAAUGCAGCUUGGCGUUCCUGUAAAGUAGAUUCUUGUCUACAAUAUUAUGAUGACAGGGAUCUAGUAUACUAUGGAAAUUCCAUCUCAUUCAUACUUUGAUAGGCAUGCUGAGAAGAAGAAGGUCUUUCUCCAUAUGUAAUUUUGAGCAACUUUUUCAUAUAUACACUGUGUAUUGUAUACAGUUCAGUUAGAUCGAAAGCAACAUUCACACCCAUUUCUCUCUCUCUCUCUCUCUCUCUCUCUCUCUCUCUCUCUCUCUCUCUUCACAGUUGGGGUUGGCAACUAAAAUGUCGAUGAGCCCCAUACUAGUUUUCGAACUUCAACGUUAUAGUUGUGCAUUUUUAGGGACAAACCCAUCUCUGCAUUUAGGAUAGUUUAUCCCUCAUGAUAAUUUAUCAGAGGACUCGAUGGAGUUGAUUUGUAAAUUAUGGGAAGUUGUUUUCAAGAGCGUGCAUGAGCAAGAUGCCCUUCACAAGUCCCAAUUCAUCAAGUGCUAACCACUCAUUUUGACGCACACGCACCCCACAAUUUGCCUUAUUAAUAUUGAUUUGUAAUCAUAAGGUAAUAUCAACCGAAAUGAACAAACAAACAUAACAAUAAUUUUUUUUUUCCUCCAAGUCAUUUAUACUUAACUAAUUUAUUUAUUUUCCAAAAAAGUUUGUUAUUUCCAUUUGCAUGCAUGAUUAUGAAUUUGAUGGAGGAGCAAAUGUACUUAUUGUUGGUAAAAUAUAAAGAUAAUUGCUAUAUUUAUAAAUUUUUGAAAAUAAAAUUUUACUAUAAAUUUGAAAUAAAUACAAAAAAAUAAUGAUAAGGAAAAUUAAGAAUACUUUACAGAUAAUCGAGUCUAGAACUUGGUUCUAUCUUCUUAAGAUGAAAUUGCCUUUUCACAGGUGCUUUUAGGAUUUGUUUAGCAAACGUCUCUCAGGAUACAACGAUCGACUUCUUGUUGAAGUAGCACUAUAAUCCCCAAGAAAAGUAAACUCAAACUUGUAUGUAUGAAUUCUCUCAUACAAACUCACUAUAUUUCUGAAAAUAUAAUGCUAAGAAUACUCUAAAAACUACUAUUGUUGGAUGACAAUUGGAUGAAUCAAAUGUUGUAGGACCUUCUCUAUUUAUAGGCAACAAGGCCUCUGUUCAGAAAAGAUGUGACUGAAAAAUAUUAACAAAUGUGUCUUUUCAUAUUGCAAGCAUAAGCCAAGAAGUGCAAUGUUUCAAUUACUAUGAAACAAUGCAACUUAAGCCAAGAAGUGCAAUGUUUCAAUUUAUAUGAAACAAUGCAACUUAACACAUAAGGUAUUAUUGUUUUAUUCAAAAAAUAAUAUUGUAUUUUUCAUCAGUUAAGAACAUGACUAUUCCUAAUUAAUACAUACCAAUUCGUAAUAGUAAUGUACUUAAAGUCACAAGUCUCACAAUUUAAUUUCCAUUCAAUUAUUAAAUCUUUCACCAAAAAAAAAUUGUACUUACGAAAUUAUGUUUUUGCCUUAAUUAGUUUUGGGGAAGAAGAAUGUACGACACAUCGUAGAUGCCAUGCCAGGGUCAAGUUUGCGUCAUGUCUCAAGAGUUUAGUUCGGGCCCAGACGGCAACGCUGAUGUCACGUGACCUAUACUUACCGUCAACCCUGGCAGUCACGUGGCACUUGUACAGUAAAAUCUCUCGCCAAUGGAAUCUCCACAUGCAAACGUUGGUCAUGCUGACCGAAAAGACCAAAACGACCCUGACAGCUUUUGACACUGAUAUGAUAGCAAUGGCUAGGACAUAACGUUAAAGACUGAAGUGACCCCAGCAUUUGUAUAAGGAUCAGUGCAGUUUGAUUUGAUGGUCGAGGGCAUUCUCGUCAUUAAGGCUCUUUACCACGCGUCACCAACCCGUUUGUCUUGUUACCUGUUUUGGAAAGAUUUGACUGAAGUUUUAUACUUCGACGUCGAUCUUUGUGUAAAAACCCACGCUUGAAUCUGGUCCGUCGGAUGGAUCUCGAAAGAUGCAUCACACGGGCUCCGAAGCGAAUCCAACGGCUGGGAGUUGAAUUGACUUGUUCUUUUUUCACUGACAGAUGCUUGAUUACUUCGUUAAUCAAACAGUCUCUAGUAUUAAUGAGAUGGAUUUUGUAGGUAGAUUUCUUAUCUGCUCCAAAGAUGAUCUCAGGAUGAAUUUGACCUUUUCUAUUGAAGACGUAAAGGUAGAUUUUGUGAAUUGUAAUUUCAAUUCUAUUAUAAUUACUCUUUUUUUUUGGGGGGUUUAUAUUGUGUGAAUUUAAUUGUAUCUUUUUUAGAAUUUUUGUCUUGUUAUGUAUUUAAAUUGAACUCCCAUAAUCUAGAGAGAUUAUAGAAUACUACGGUACGGCCACGUGGUACAUCUUGUACACGUAUUAUAAUAUAAGUGAAGCAUUUAGUAGGAUGGUUUUGUGUUGAUUCUCCACUGUUUAACAAUGGAGUGAGAAAAAUUUGUGAAAGAGUUCAUAAGAAUCCGGAGGAAAAUUGGGUGUGUUGAUAUGAAGUUUAUGAUUUGAAAUGACAUAACUAAUCAUGUAAAGAAGUCAAUAACAAUCAAAUCUUUAUUCAAUUUUAAUAUUAAAUAAGCCCAAUAACGUUUCACCAUAUUAGCUAGGAGAUUUUUCUUUUUGAGAGACUAGUGGUUUUUUCUUUGUUUUUGUGUUUGUUUCCGGGAAGAGAUAAUUUAUACAUGAAGUCAAAGUAACUGAGUCAAUAGCAAAGAAGAUGAGUUUCUGGGGUAUGAUUACGCAGUAAUGAAGAACAAAAAAGAAAAAGGAAAAAGUGAACCUUAUGAGACUAUACAACAUAUAUAAUUAAGGAAGUAACUAUUUAUAUUUAUCUGUCUCUUCAUUUGAUCAAUCAUGCGAGUGACGUUUUUCUUUACACAUGUAUACGAAGUGUAAAGCCAUGCAUUAAAAUAGAUAUCCUACAAGCUCUUUUCAGUCAUAACGAAUUGAUUUUGAGUUGGAUCAUCAUAGCUUGUUAGGCUAAUUGUUGGUUCCGGGAUGAACGCCUCCUCCUAACUUUAAAAAAAUUAAAAAUGAGUAAAAAGCAUUGAGAAUAUACCAUAUUUACCUUAUUUUUCUUAAACGAAGUUUUAAAUUUAUUUUUUAAGUUUUGGCUCGUAAGGAUCUUGGUGAGUUGUACAAAAUCCAAGUGUAGGAAUCUGAUAGCGAUGUUGCGAUAUCCAGUGUUCUUGGAUUUCAUGUUCUUACUGUCAAUCAUACAAGCAAUUUGUAGACACUUGUAGUAGUAAAUGGCCGGCACUGGUCGCGGCUACUAGCUAUAUAAAAAAAGCUGUAAAAGCCCUGCACCAUUAUGCAUAAGUUUCGUCAGGACGAUCAUGGCCGCGUGAUUACUUCAUGCGUUGCUCAAACGCUAUGGCCCCAUCUCCACUGUUUGGAAACCAAGAAAAUUAUGGAACUCUCUGACUCUAAAUGUAGAUGUAGGGUUUGAGCAGUCGAGGGCUACGACACCAGUUCCAGCCUUGAAAGUGGGAUAUAUGAAUGUUAUAUGGCAAUCCAUGAAACUGUAGGUGACCCCCCAGUACGUAGGUCCAUAAUUCCAUUUCCAUAAUGAUUCACCAAAUAUUGGAUACAGCAGGCCAGAAUAUAUAUCUGAUUGCACUUUUCAGUUAAUAUCAAAUCUUUCUUCUAGUAAUCAUCCAUAUUUGCUCAACUUGUCUAGCUUUAUACGAGAGAGGAAACUGCAUUUCUGCAACAAUACGCAUUUGCAUUACAAGGGAGAUAUUUGUUUUAUUAUUGCCUAGUUAGCGAUUCUCGAUAUGCCAUUAUUUUCUCAUAAUCAUUUGCUGAUUCGGGUGCCAGUCGAAUCCAAGAUAUCGAUUAGGCUAUAAGAUCAACAAGUUUCAAGAACAACGAAGGUAUGCCAUUUCAAAAACAUAAAACAACGAAAACAUUUUCGAAAUCAAUGUUACUCUCAGAGUUGUCAUUGUGCACUUUUCAGAAUGAAAUAAAAAGAUGUUUCUAAUUUGGUUAAUGAAUGUGCAUGGAUGCUUCAAUAGAAGAAACAUUUUUUGUGCAUACGACUCGAAGUUUCCUUUUGGUUACUUAAGAGGGGAUAUAAAUUUUUGUAAGUUUUUGUAUUUGGUAUUAUAUGAGAUUUGAUCAUACGUAGAUGAGACCUUAACUUUUAAUUGUUAAAUCAAUUUGAUUAGCUAUUGAAUCAAAUUAGUUAGUUUGAUCCAAUGGUUAAGAGAUAAAUCCUCAUCUAGGAGCCUUAGAUAAUAAGACCUUAAUUAAAGAAUGAUUCCAUACAUGACACUAUCACUAUAAAAUUUCGCAUCAUGCAGGCUAUACCUAGCUAGAGGAAGUCAUCAUGCGUCAUUGAAUUACACAACGGCCAUGAAAUAUCAAUUGUGGACAGAUCACAUAUAAAGCCAAGAAAGAAAGAAAAAGAGAAGCUACGAGCUAAAACCUAUUCAAUGUUGUCGUCUACAACAAAAUGAUACGCAUGCAGGUAGCUAUCUUAUGCCAAAUCUAACUUGGAUUCAUCAUGUUGAAAUUUCACCCAAAUUUUCAUGUGACAUCAAAGUUUUCUAUUUGGACGGGUCCGCAGCUUUCUUAUACUAAAGCAAAAAUAAUACACCAAGACAAAAAUAUGUACAAUAGAUAUAUAAUUGCCCACCGACAUGGACUUCGUCAAGUUGAUUAGAGCGGAUGUGCUUCUCACUAUGCACUCGAAUUCGAAUAUUCCUCCCCAUAAUUUAGAUUAAAUUUAAAUCAAAUGUCGUUUGUAUUAAAAAUAUAUAUAUAUAUAUAUAUAUAUAACUGCCCAAAUUGUGACUUCUUACUAAGCCCAAAUUUAAUUGGAAAAGGUACAUCAAUAGUAUUGAUAUUGCAAGAAUUCUAUAGUGAGGGCCUUAUAUAUGGUCCUUAAGUGAGACCAUAUCUUUUAAUAGUUAGAUCAAAUUAGUUAAUCGUUGAAUCAAGUUAGUUGGUCAAUAUAUACAGAAUAGCGCACAAAAUGUUUGUUCAAGAUUGUUUGCUUUUUAGUUAAAGCAACAGCAACCUCUCUGUUAGCCCAACUGAAGUGAAGCCCAUUUCAAGGCCCAAAUUGUCUUCCCAAAAGAGAAUGAUCACUACUUAAACUCGAUCAACUACUAGUUUUUAUCCCAAAAUCGUUUACUUGGUUGGCUGACAUAAUUAGGGAAAAAAAGGUCAAGAAAUACUACACCAUGUUGUAAAUUCAUUGAUUGUGGAUGACCACCAUAAUAUCAUUCAUAAUACUUACUAUAAAACACAUCUUAAUAUCACUGUAACCUAUGCACACUAAGGAUUGUAAUUAGUACAUUUAUGGGUUGUAAUUAUAUGUUUGUUACCUACUAAUAAUUGGUGGUGAAUGUUUGUCUAUUCUCGAAGUCUAUAAAUAGUAGGUAUCAAAGAUGAAUGGUAUACAAGUUCAUAGAACAAAUUCUUUGUCUUUCACUUUCUCUUAUUGCUAUAUACAAUUCCCUCUAAUUUUAUAACACACCAUAUAUUAUCAUUUCUCAUAGAUGUGGAUCAUUGAUCAUCGGUUAUUGACAUAUACUUGCAUAAAGUCUUAGCAAUAAUUUCUCAAGUUCUUCUUACUCCACUUUUGUUAGCAAUAGAAGUCAUGUCGUAUGUUUUGUUAGUUUUUAUAUAUUAAAUUUAGAGGUAAAUAUGCCUUUUUAUGUUAAUUUUAGUUUCCAUAAUUCUGAAACUCAUAUUUCCUUGAUCAAUAAGAUAUAAUUCAAUUAGUUAAGCUAUUUCACCUUUACAUAUGCGGGCAGGACAUUUACUUCGAGGGAUCACAUUUGGAAAUGAUCAUUUUGUUGUUGUCCAUGCUUUACACUUUGAGUUGUAUACCUGGCAGCCUUUGAUUGGUUGUCAAUAUUAAAUACUCACCCCAAAUUAAAAUAUUAUUGAAAUUGCACCUUUCAUACUUUCAAAAUUUAUAAAUUGUUCCAUUUUCUUGCAGUAACAUCAUCACCUUACUUACACAUGCAUGACACCUCUCUACUUUCAGCUUUCUAGAAAGAUAAGCUAGGUUUAUCACAUUUUUAUAACACCUUCUCUAAUAGAGGUAAAGCCCACCAAUACAAUAGGACCCACCUCUAUUAAAGAAAUGAUACACGAUGUGAUAUAAAAAUAUAAUAAGCCUAACAUUUUCCUUCUAGAAAAAAGAUACUUAAUAGAGCUAGUCUUUUGGACCAAGAUCACACGACAACAUAAGCGGUUCUAUGUGGUCAACAAGGGCGGUGAAAUCUUAAAAAUAAUUCUUGCCUCAACAUCAAUAACUGCCCUUUCACUAUUUCAACGGUAAUUUACUUGUUUAAAUGAAGAAGCCCAUAUGAUUAUAGACUACGUACGGGAAGCCAUACAUGUACAAAGCAUUAAUUCAAUAAGGUUUCCUCAAGCACUUAUUCAUUACUUUCUCUAAUUAUUCUACUAAUCACCUCCAUUAACCUAAACACUCAAUUAGUUUUUGCUCAGCCACGUUUACCUGUCCAUGUCUUGUUUUCCCAACAAAGGCAACUACACCACCAACAGCACUUACCACACAAACCUCAACAGCCUUCUAUCAGCCUCCCUCCUCUCCAAUACGGUAACGGCCACGGCUUCUACAGCUCCUUAUCCGCCCAAAGAGUCUAUGCAAUCGGGCUCUGCAGAGGAGACAUUAACCCCGAUGCUUGCGGUAGUUGCCUCAGUAACUCUACAAUUUCCAUCGCACAAGCUUGCCCUAACCAAAAGGGGCAGUAUGGCGGGACUAAUGCAUGCUACUCUACCCAAACCGCUCCAUACGUGGCUUCAUGGAAGCCUGUCCGAUUUUCUAUACCACGAGCUCUGGCAACGUGUUGUCAUCUGACAUCGGAGGGUUCAACCUGAUAAACAUGGCAGAAAAAGAGAUUUAGGUUUUGAGUUUUAGUGAGAGAGUUAAAAAGAGAGAAGCUCUGUAUAUUUCUUUCUGAAAAAUCUUAUACAUCCCAAGUUAAUCUUAAGCAGAGCUUAAGCUUAACCUUAUGUAGCUAACUAACAUAACUUCUCCUGUGAGUAAACUAUACUAACACACACGUGUAUUCAAGUGGACUAAACACUAAUAAGCACGUGAACAAUCCAGCUCACUAAACACCUCAGCAGCAGCAUACUGUUAACACAACCGGCAGCUCAUGAUCCUGCUGGAAAGACUGAGAGGUGGAGCAUUGGUUUGGCAGCGGCUACUGAAAAAAAAGCUGUAAAAGCCCUGCACAUGAUUAUAUAUAAGGUUCGUCAGGAGACGAUCAUGGCCGCGUGAUUACUAAUGCGCUCUUCAAACACUAUGGCCCCAUCUCCACUGUUUGGCAACCAAGAAAAUUAUGAGACUCUCUGACUCUAUAUGUAAUAUAUAUAAUUGACAUGAGACGAAUACUCUCUCUCUCUCUCUCUCUCUCUCUGUGUAGGGUUUUUAGCAGUUCAGGGCUACGACGCCAGUUGCAGCCUUGAAAGUGGGAUGUGCAUGGUUUAUGGCAAUCCAUAGGUGACCCCCACAGUAGGUCCAUAAUUCCAUUUCCAUGAUUCAAAUAUUGGAUACAGCAGGCCAGAAUAUAUAUAUAUCUCGUUGCGCUUUUCUGUUAAUAUCUUUUCUUUCUUCUAGCAAUCAUCCAUAUGUGCUCAACUUGUUUAGCUUUAUACGAGAGAAGAGACUGCAUGUCUGCGAUGUUUUAUUAUUGCUUUGUCAGUCGUUCUUGAUACCAAUUUUUUUAUUAUUUUUAAUCCUAACCAAUAUUCGUUGAUUCGGGUGCCGAUCAAAUCCAAAAUAUAUGCUGAUCUUUGAUUAGACUAUAAAAUCAACAAGCUUCAAGAACACCGAUCGAUGAUUUGUCAUUUUAUUUAACACAUAAAAUAUGGAAAACAUUUUUAAAAUAAAAAUGAUAUUCACACGCUCAAAAUUGUCAUCAUAUUCUCUCUAAAACAAAAAUAAAAACAUAUUUCUAAAUUGGUUAUUAGUAGGCGCUUUAAUAGAAGAACCAUUUUUUGUGUGCUUUUAAUUAAGUUACGUGUUUGAAUGUGAUCCAUGGACCAGUAAAUAAGGGCCAAAUAUUAAUUCAAGCUAGCUAUGUUGAGAGUGAUAAGUUUUGGUAUGUUUGUUUUGUAAUUGGAACUAUAUGAUUGAUCCUAUAGGCUAUACCUAUAGCUAGAGGGAGGCACUCUCUGAAGUGGCACUGGCCCAUUGAAUUACUAUCAGUUGCCGACAGAUCACUGAUAAAGCCAAAGCCUAGCUAGGAUCAGCUAAACCUAAUUCGUGUUCGACCAAAAAAAGCUAAACCUAUUUUGUGUCAUUCUUUCGACCACAAAAUGAUACGCAUGCAGCUAGCAAUCUUAUGGAGGAUCUAGGAUCAUCAUGUUCAAAAUUUCAACCCAAAUGUUUGAUGUGAUAUCAAAGUUUUCUGUGUGGAGUGGUCUCGCAGCUUUCUUGUUCUCUCUCUAAGACUAAACUACUUUAGAAAAAUAAUUACCCAAAUUUUGACUUCUUACUAAAGCCCAGAUUUGAUGAGAAAAGGUCCAGUAUUGGUUUGAACCCAUUACAUUGGAACCACAGACAAGGAAUAUCCCACAAAAUGUUCCUUUGUGCCCAAACGGGAAGAGAGAGAAUGAAAGGUGGAAAGAUACUAAGAUGCAUCUUAAUAAUACUAAUGACAUGCUUACUAAUAAUAAUUAAGUUAAGAGGAAUUGAAUUUUAAUUCGUUUUUCCAUUACGAGUUGUAUCCUUUUUGUAAUUAAUGGAUAGAUAUAUAUAUAUAUAUAUAUAUCAUCUUGGUUUCUUUUUUAAUAAGUGGAAAAUGAGAUAUGAGUACUUGAGAUAUCUUUCAACAUUGAGAAGAGAAAUACUAUUAAAUUAAGAGUUAGUUAAUGUAAAAUAUCAUCUUGGUUCAACAUUUAAGUUUAGUGUUUGAUCAUGAAUUCGGGUGUUAGUAUCGAGUUUUAUUUGAGUGCGAGUGAGUUUAGGUUGAGCUUGGUUUGCGCCUGAAGCCUCAACCAAAACUCAGAUCCAGUUUGAUCAAGUUUACAAUUUCUGUUUGAGCAUAAUCUUGACGAUGUUUCAAAAGGGUUGUGACAGUCUACCAUUUUGUCCUUAUCACCUUCCCAAAAAAGAAUAUCGAUCAACUAAGAGCAUCUUCAACCGAUGUGUCAAAAGUGCCACAUAGACAUUUAACGGCCAGAAAUAGCAUCUCACAUCACUCCAACUGAUGUGUCAAAGCUGAUGUGGAAUGAAGGCUAGAGGUUGAGAUGUUAUUUUUGACAUCCCAAAAGCAAGAUGUCAAAUGAAUAUUUUAUUAUUUUUAAAAGAUAGUUGGCUGUUACUUUCAUUUAUUAUUAUCAUUUUUUUAUUUUUUCUUCUUUAUCUUAAAUGAUUUGACUGUUACAAUAAUUAUUUAUUUGACAUAUCGGGUGGAGUGUAAAACUGUGUAAAUGUCAAAUUGCCACAUCAGCCAUCAAAUUUAAAUUUGAUAUUUGGUAUUUGACAUCUCCCUUGGAGAUGCUCUAAGGAAAGAAAGAGUCUAGAAAGACUAGACCACAUAUUUAUUUCAUACUUUCAGAAUUUAUAAAUUGUUCUCGAAAACAUUUACUUCAUUAAAUUGUUCUAAAAAAUUAUUCUUGCCGGCCUUGUCCUCACUCCUCACCUUUCACAGUCACUCAACCAGCGCCCUUUCACUAUUUUCCAGUGGUAAUUUUUUUUUUCAAUUAGUCAAAAUAAUAUACAUCACGUAUAUAAUUUUAAUCAAUCAAUUGUAAUCAAAGAAGAAAACCAUAAUAUAAUUUCAAUCAAUCAAUUGUAAUUAAAAAAAAAAAAAGCCAUAUAAUUUAUAGACUGCAUAUGGGAAGCCACACAAGUCAUUAGUUCAAUAUGGUUUCCUCAAGCUCUCAUUCAUUACUUUCUCGAAUUACUCUAGUAAUCAUCACCAUUAACCUAAACACUCAAUUAAUCUUUGCUCAGCCACGUUACCUGUCCAAGUUUUGUUUUCCCAACGAAGGCAACUACACCACCAACAGCACUUACCGCACAAACCUCAACAGACUUCUCUCCACUUCUCUCCUCUCCAACGGUAACGGCCACGGCUUCUACAGCUCCUCCUCCACCCAAAACGACCUCGAAAGGAUCUGCGCAAUCGGGCUCUGUACAGGAGACAUUAACCCCGAUGCUUGCGGUAGUUGCCUCAGUAACUCUACAAUCUUCAUCGCACAAGCUUGCCCUAACCAAAAGGUGGCAGUUCUAUGGCGGGAGGUUUGCAUGCUACGCUACUCAAACCGCUCCAUACGUGGCUUCAUGGAAGCCGGUGCGAUUUUCUAUACCACGAGCUCCGGCAACAUGUCGUCAUCUAACGUCGGAAGGUUCAACCGGCAGCUCAUGACCCUGCUGGAAAGAUUGAGAGGUGAAGCAGCGGCUGGUGGCGAUCUUGUUAAGUUUGCAGUUGGAAACGUUUCGAAAAAUAAUGUUAUUUCUCAGACGAUAUAUGGACUUGCUCAGUGUACACCGGAUUUGACUGAGCUCGACUGUAACAAUUGCUUAGUAUCAAUUGCUGGUGACAUCCCACAGUGCUGUUAUGGGAAGCUUGGUGGGAGACUUGGUACACCCAGCUGUUAUAUAUAUAAAUAUAUCAGCCCACUUCUACAUUGGGAUAUAUACCUUCAAGCUUUGCAAUUCGAUUUUGCCUCCAUUAGAGUUGCCACAAAUAACUUUUCUGAAGAAAAUAAGCUCGGAUGGGGUGGAUUUGGUGAUGUUUACAGGGUAUAAUGACACAAAUGUUUUGAGCAAAAAAUUUAUAAAUUAUAUAUAUGUGCCUAAAUGAGAAACAAUAUUGAAGUUAAUUUUCAGAUUAAUCGCUUGAAUGCAGGGGACGCUUCUCAGUGGAGAAGAUAUAGCAGUGAAAAGACUAUCUACGGAUUCUGCACUAGGAGAUUUGGAAUUUAAAAAUGAGGUCUUGUUAGUGGCCAGGCUACAACACCGCAAUUUAGUUAGGCUCCUUGGUUUUUGCCUGGAAGGAAAUGAAAGGCUUCUUGUCUAUGAGUUUGUCCCUAACGCAAGUCUCGAUCAAUUCAUAUUUGGUAUGACUGAAUUCUAGUUUAUUUCAAUAAUGCAUUUCGGAAAAGUUCAUUUGUGUGGCUACAUUUUACAGAUUACUAAUUUUUCUUGAAUAUGUAGAUCCAAUCAAGUGCGCUAAUUUGGUUUGGGAGAGUCGCUACAAAAUCAUACUAGGAAUUGGAUGGGGGCUCCUUUUCCCUCACGAAGAUUCUCGUUUUAGAAUUAUUCACUGUGAUUUGAAAACUAGCAACAUUUUGUUAGAUGCAGAAAUGAAUGCAAAAAUUUCAGAUUUUGGCAUGACAAAGUUGUUUAUGCUUGAUCAAAGACAAGGCGAGACCAUUCGAAUUGUGGGGACCUAGUAAGUAUACUAAACUAGGCUAACUUCUGAGCAUAACCAUGCAAAGUUUUAAUCCAAGUAAAUUAAAGCUUAUGAUAGGCCUUUUUGACGUGCAGUGGAUAUAUGGCUCAUGAAUAUGGAUACUUUUAUGAUAAGUCCGAUGUUUAUAGCUUUGGUGUACUAGUUUUGGAGAUAAUAAGUGGACAAAAAAUGUGUUCUUCCCGCCAUGAAGAGAAUGAGGAUCUUCUAAGCUAUGUAAGUAAAGAAACAUUCGGACCGAUUUACACGAAAGAAUGAAGUGAAACUAGUCUCUAAUAUUGUGUUUAUUCGCAUUCACAAAUCAUACAGGCACGGAAAAAUUGGAAGGAAGGGACAGCUUCAAAUCUAAUAGAUCCCACCUUGAGAACUGGUUCAAGAACUGAUGAAAUAAUGAGAUGCAUCCAAAUUGGAUUGUUAUGGCUGCAACAAUCUAUGGCUGCAAGGCCAACUAUGGCUUCAGUUAUUCUCAUGCUUACUAGCAGCUCUCUCAGUCUCCCAGUACCCUCACAGCCACCCUUUUUUAUGAUCGAAUUGGAGAUGUCUGGUGUGGUAGGAUGAGAUCAGUCCAAGAGCAACUCUGUCCAACAAUCGGUUAAUGAGGCCUCAUUACUGAACUGUCUCCUCGCUAUAAAAGCUACAAAACUAAAGAAAAAUAAUUGCCCAAAUUGUGAUUUCUUACUAAAGCCCAAAUUCAAUGAGAAAAAGGUCCAGUAUUGAUAUGAACCCAUUACACACAGAAAAGUGUAGGACUAAGGCGAAACAGAAUAGCCCACAAAAAUGUGCGAAGAAUGAAAAUUUGAACUUGAAAUCUCUUUCAACGUUAAUUGAUAUGGAUAACAUUUUAUUCAAUACAUAACUUUAGGAUUUUCAAAGUUUAGUGUUUGGUCAUGAAUUUGAGUGUUGGUAUUAAAUUUUAUAUAAAUGCGAGUGAGUUUAGGUUAAGCUUGGUUUUGCUUGAACCCUCAACGAGAACUCGAUAAGAGUAUGAUGAAGUUGACAAUUUAUGAACCCAAACUCAAUUAAACUGUCUCUAACUUGUGCAUGCAUGUUCAAAUUUGAGUAUUUUCUGUUUGAGCUUACUACUUUUCUAUAUAAUCUUGACGAUGGUUCAAAGGGACAGUCUACCAUUUUGUCCUUAUCGCCUUCCUAAAAAAGAGUAUUCAGUCAUUAAACCUGGAUCAACUAAAAGUUUUAUCCCAAAAUCGUUUACUUUGUCUACUUAACUAAAGAUUAUGUUGAAUUCAAAAUAUGUUUAAAAAUAUUUAUAUAUACAGAAAGACGAGACCCCACAUAUUAUAAUUUCUCAUAGAUCAACAUCAUCUUGAGCAAUUAUCAGGACAGUUGACCGUAUAUCCUCCUCCAAAAAAUGCAUGAAGUUUCCUGGAAUGAUUAACUUAUAUACUUGAAAAUGAUAUUUGUUGUCCAUGCUUUACAUUUGGCGUUUAAACCGGUCAGUUUUUGAUUGGCUGUCUUUCCUAUUAAAUUAGCACGAUAAAUUAAUAUAUAUAUUUUUUUAGUACAAGUGAUAGUCUACACUAUAGGGAAUGAGAAUUUCUCACACACACACAACUAUGAUGCUUUAGAAAUUCGAACUUGAGACCUCUCGUAUGCAAAUUAAUGGUAAUUUUUUAUUGGGUUAAUCCUGUUGGCAAAUUCGAAUAUUUUAAUUACAUUUAUAAAUUGUUCACUUUCUUUAACAAAACCAUCAACACCUUCCGCAUGUAUGGAACCUCCAGCUUCCUAAAGUCGUUUUCUUCCAACAAAAAAGAAUCCCCGUUUUCUUUUGGACCAAGUUCACACGUCGACAACGUAAGCACUUGGGUGUGGUCAACAAGGGCGGUGAAACCUUAAAAAUUAUUCUUGCCGGCCUUGUCCUCACUUCUUCUCACCCUCCACUCAACCACAGCCGCCCUUUCACUAUUUCAUUGGUAAUUUACUUGUUUAACGUAUUCAAUUAGUCAAAUUGAUAUACAUCAUGUAUAUAAUUUUAAUCAAUUAGCUCUCAUUCAUUACUUUCUCUAAUUAUUCUACUAAUUACCUCCAUUAACCUAAUCACUCAAUUCGUGGUUGCUCAGCCACGUUACCUGUCCAAGUUCUGUUUUCCCAACAAAGGCAACUUACCACACAAACCUCAACAACCUUCUAUCCCCUUCCCUCCUCUCCAACCGUAACGGCCACGGCUUCUACAGCUCCUCCUCCGCCCAAAAAGACGUCGAAAGAGUCUAUGCAAUCGGGCUCACCCCGAUUCUUGCGGUAGUUGCCUCUGGUGAUGUGCCUGCCACCUCCAAUCCUGAAUAUCUAAAGUGGUUUGAUGUCAUCAACUCAUCGUCAGCUACCUUAAUUACCUCCACCAUUACCGUUGGUUGUGCUUCUUCUCGCGACAUUUGAACUUGUCUUCAGACUCACUUUUUUUUUUCAUGGGUGACUAACUAUUAUCAAAACAAAUCCAGCGGGUCUUAGAGACCCCCAUCACGUCGUCAGCUAAUAAGGUGCCAAUCCAAGCUGGAGCAGAGUCAAGAGGGCACGGUAAACAUGAUUUUUACACCACAAUUUCCAACUUGUUCUACAAACUUUCUGCAGUCUGAGAGCACUCCAGCAAGAGGGUCUUCAAACUCACUUCGCUCAAGCUUCGGUUUGAUAUAGAUUAUAGAAUUUAGGAGUAAUUGUGGCAAUGUUCUUGAACUAUACCCGUAGGUGCAUUUUGGUUCAAAAAUAGCUGCAGAGGUUCCCCAAUUAUGUAUGGUGUUGCAUUACUAGUCCCUUCCGUUAAGUCUGUCUAUUUUUUCGUUAAAUCCAUGGGUAAACUUGGAAUUUUUUUCCAAAUAUUUAUAAAAACGAAAUAACAAAAAGUAAAUAAAUAAGGGUUAUUUGUAGAAAUGGUCCCUCAACUAUAUUCGGAAUUACAUUUUGGUCACUCAACUCCAAAAAUAGUUACAGAGAGGUCNNNNNNNNNNNNNNNNNNNNNNNNNNNNNNNNNNNNNNNNNNNNNNNNNNNNNNNNNNNNNNNNNNNNNNNNNNNNNNNNNNNNNNNNNNNNNNNNNNNNAGAAAGCUGCGAGACCACUCCACACAGAAAACUCUGAUAUCACAUCAACAUUUGGGUUGAAAUUUGACAUGAUGAUCCAGAUCCUCCAUAAGACUGCUAGCUGCAUGCGUAUCAUUUUGUGUCGAAAGAAUGACACAACAUCAGGUAUUAGACGUGAUCUUGUGUAGACUAGUAUUGGAGUUCAGUGACUAAAAUGAAACUCCGAGUAUAAUUGAGGGACCAUUGCUACAAAUAAUCCUAGAAUUUAAAAGUUAUUUUCUUUUUUAAUACAACCAAUUUUUAUUCUUGACGUACAAUCCAAACAUAUCAGGCAGCGUGAACUCUACGACAAGAAAAGCUCACAAAUCAUCGUCCAUGUGUUUAAAUCUCUCUUAAACCAAAAAAACUUCAUCCGGUCCUCUUCUCCGUCCUAUCACUUACAAUACAUGAACAAAUAAUACUAUUGGGUAUAUUGAAAAUAUAAAACUGAGACACCCAAUUUAUGUGGGCAGAUGUUCGAAAUCCAGACACUCAAUGAAUAUGUGUGUAAACCCCUUCCUCCAAUCACUUGCGCUAAAAAAAAUCAACCGUAAAAAUUAGAAAUUAUUAUAAAGUAGUUUUUUUUUUUGGUUGAAAAAUAUUUCUAUAAAAUGGGAACCGAAAAAUGAAUUUGUAUAUUCAGGAUCUGAAAAUGUGACUCAUAGCUUAGUUAAAAAUGAAGCUUGAUUGCAGCAAUGAUUCUCAGAAUAUACCUUUUCACAUUUUAGUCUCCGGAAUUUUAAUAAUAUUUGAUGUCGUACUCUAAGUGACACAUUGUCAUUUCCGUAAACGCAACGAGAUGGCUUAAAUUUUUCUUGUGAAUAUGGUGGCCUUCUUUGGCAAGGCAAACAAAAGUAAUUUUUAUAUAGCGCGUCAAUUUUCUAUUAUAACAAAUAUUGUAAACAAGCAUUGGUGGCGAUUAUUAUUUUAAACUUGGCGUGUGAAACGAGAUUGCUAAGAAAUUCUAUAUUAUAGGUGCCCAGCUCAUUGUCGCAUUAUCUUUUAAAAUUUUGGCUUGAUUUUUAUUUUAUUUUUAAUACAACACUUUCAAAACGUACGUUACGAGGAUUCGAACUUGUAAAUGUCCUUUUUUAAUGUGCUAGAAUUCGUUGGCAUUUUGGCUUUGCUAUUGAUAAGUAAAUAACACAUCCCUUUUACAUAAAAUUUUUACAACACAUAAUAAGUAAAUAACACGUCCGUUUUACAUAAAUUUUUACAAAACUUGGACAUAACAUUUACAAACUCAGAUUAUGAAACACUCUUAACUGCUUUGUAAAGCAGUUUUAUUGAAAGCAAAACAAAAACAAACUAGCCCGUAUUGUCACGGCUUCCUGCAAUACAAACCUGAACAGAAACCAUGAAAUACUAUCUUGUCCAACACAAAAUUCACCAACUUGAAACCCAUUUCCACGAACUUCAUCCGGUUCUCAGCAAACUAUAAAGUGAUCACGAAAAACACAGUCAACAAAUCAAUCACACUCAUGAUCAAUAGUACGUAAUACCAAAAACAAAACAACAAAAAACCCCUAAAUUUCAUUAUUUGCUUUUUUUUUUCUUUUCUUUCCCAGACUUGAAUCUGCUUGAUUUUUAUUCUAAGCAUGCCACGUCAUUUAGAAAUAAUCCAAACACGAAAAAACAAGAAACCACAUAGUUUUCCCUAGCUGCCUUCUUCUCCAUUUUAGCAUUCUCUCAAAACCAAGAGGAACCUCUUCUCCUUUCAAUCACCCUUUUCCCUUUACUUUUCUUUUCUCCAGAAAGCCAACAGCUUUCGUCUCCCGGCCAUCUCUUUCUUUCUAUUUAUCUAAUUCUACAAUCCGGACAGAAUUCUUUUAAUUUUUUUUUUCCUUGCUUGCUGAUAUAAGUCCUGAUCUGAUACGCGUGGCUACUUCCGUGGAGGAAAAUAGGAGAAAACAAGGUCUUUUACAAGGGACUUACAUGAAACUUCCUUAAUUGAAAGAUGAACAAAUUAUACGUUUUGAGAGAAUGCUAAAAUGAAGAAGAAAGAGCUGCCAAGGGAAAAAUAUGUGGUUUUAUGUUUUUAGCUUUCGGAUGAUGUUUAAAUGAUGUGCCAUGCAUGCUCUGAAGAAAGUCAAGCAGAUCCAAGCUAGAAAAAACCAAGCACAGGAUCCGCGUCCUAUUUUGUAAGGCUACAUAUCCAACCUUAAAGAGGUGAACACAGAUCCACAUAUCCAUGGGGAACUGGCUUGAACCUCUAUGCACUGAAAUAUAUAUAUUAGAGAGAGAUGAUACCGAUCAUUUACCUCAUGAGUAUACCCGUGUAGAGUGUGAGAAACGCCCAAUACCCCUGCAAUUCACAACUCAUGACGUUAGGAAAAUUUAUUGAUAUUGCACACACACACACACACACAUAUAUCAAUACAAGCUGACAACUGAGGGAUCAUUUACCUCAUGAUGAUGCUUUUUGGGGGGAUCGUUUCUGCCUCCGCCACCAGUUUUCCAUUUUCUAGAAGAAAGGUGACUCGUCCGUUGGUAUUGAAAUACUGUGCUGAAAGGACCGUCGUGGUCCUCGUACCAUUAGCCGUUGCGAUGACAUGAACGGUUCUGGGAACACCAGUAUAAGAACUAUGAUCUAGGAAUUUCUUCGCUCUUAUCAAAUUGCGACCCGCAGGUGGCAUCUUAGCAACUAGCCUUCCCACCGAGACAUCACCUCUCUCGACCUCUCUUAUUUCAACCUCCACCGCUGUAUUGUUUUUAAUCUCGGUCAUCCGAGCAAACAAAUCAAAAAAGUUCUUCAUUGAUUAACUAUUUCACCACAACCCACAGGCUCUGCUCCCCAAGGCUCUUUAACCGCUAUAUAUUGGCUAGGGUCAGCCACACUGAUAAAAUAAGUUGGGGUCAAAAAAAGACAAGAUCAACCUACUAAUAUUAUAAGGGUGGGCAUUGGAACUUCAGAACCGAUCAACCGUAUUGAACUGGGCCGAAGGAGAUUUAAAUACUAAAAAAUAAAAAAUGCCGAGUUCGCCAACUAAAUUAACUUAGGUUGAAUACCAAAUUGAACCGGUCCGAUUUCAGUCCCAAUUUUUGUGAUGAAUCUGCAGGUCGGUACCAAACCAGACCAGUUGCGUGAGAUAUUAUUUUUUGGAUACUGUUUGUGAAGGAUGUAUUUCUACUUUAUGUAAAUCACGUUUUGACAUAUGUAAAAAUAAUUCUAAAAAAUAUAAAAGAAAAAAUCUCUACACAUGUCAAAUUGUGAUUAGCAGAAAAGUAAGAAUUCCUACUUCCUACAAGAAGUAUUUUCUUAUUUGUUUUAAAUAUUCAAGCCUAAAAUGUAUCAACCUAAUACCUAAUCCCCAAGCCCAAACCUCUCUCUCUCUCUCUCUCUCUCUCUCUCUCUCUCUUCCUUCUUAUGUGCCUUUUCUCUCUCGUCUUCUUCUUUCUCUUUUAUUUUUCUCCUUCUGUCUUUCCAGUGGUGGAUCCAAAAUUUUUCUGUGGGAGAUGCAAUAUUAACCAAAAUAAAUAUUAAUUAGUCAAUAUCUUCAAUAUCAGUGGUGGACUCUCAUACUAGCCAAAAUCAAUAUCAAUAAAUUUAACUAAAAUAAACAUCAAUUAAUAAAAUAAAAAAUUAUAUCAAAUUAUAAAUUAAUCUAACUAAUUAUAAUUGAUCAUAUUGAGUCGUGCACAACAUAGUCUCUAUGCUCGAGUUUGUUCUAGUUUAACAAUAUGUAUUACAUUCUAACUUACUUUGAAAGCUUGAUCGAUACAAUAUUUUCUUUGAUUUGUAUGAGAAUGUUCAUGGCAUGGAAUUUCAAGAUUUCAUUUUGGAACCUACUUCUUUUUGAGAAAUCUCACCAUAGCUUUGCACGUCAAAGUUUUAAACUCUUAUCUCUUUCAUUGCACUACUUUGGAAAACUUGGUUUUUUCUUUGGUUUGUCUGAGAGUGUUCAUGACAUGGAAAUGAGUUUUCAAGAUUUCAUUUUGUAAGCUGCUUUUUUUUAAUAGAAAAUAUGACCAUAGCUUUGCACUUCAAAGUUUUAAUAUCUCAUCUCUUUCAUUUGCACCAUUUUGGAAAACUUGAUUUUCUCCUUGAUUUGUUUGAGAGUGUUUGAAAUAAGGGUUUCAAAUAUUUUUUGAAUAUUCCUUCUAUUUUCGAAAUCUACUUCACCCAUUGGGAAAUUUUUGGAGUAAUUUUGCUCUGCAUUUUUUACUUGGUGAAGUCUAGGUUUUUCAUUGUGAGAUUUUGAAAAUGGUUUUUGAAAUUUGCUGUACUUUUAAAAUAUGCAUAUGGGUUCAUUUUGACUAGUCAGAUUCUUGGUUGAUUUCUUCAAGAGUAUGGUUUCUUGAAGGAAUUGACCAUUUCAUCUCAAAAUCUAUAUUUCAUUAUGUAUGUUCGAUCCAAAGCUGAGUUGUGAUGCCAUGAAGUGAAGAAGUUGAUGGAUUAGCUGUAUUUUUCUUGAAGGAUAGGAUACUAGCUCCACUAAGUUGGAGAAGAAGGUUACAGGGAGGUAGUGCUAAUUUCCUAAAUAGAUCUAGAACUGCUUGAGUUUGUAAUCUCUGUAAGAACCUUUUUAACUUAAUAAAUUUAAUAAUCGGAUGAUGACCUUCAGUUUUUCCCAGUAAUAAGUUUAUGAGUGAACAUUUAUGGUGUCCUGUUCUUGAAAAAUACCACAGGCGGAGAGAUGAUUGACCACUCGGACUGUUCGAUGCAUCUCCCCAGUCAAUGAUUGCCUUGCACAUUUGAUUUUUUAUUUUAAUUGACCUGGUCAAAUUUAUGUACUUCUCAUGGUAAAAAAUAGCGGGCCAAAGGCCCAGCUUUCUAUUAAGCUUUCGACUCAACAUAAAAUGGCGGGCUUUUUUAUUAUUAUUAUUAGGAUGCUAAUUUUCUCAUUCUAUUUUAUUAUUAAGGAGAAUCCUGUUUUGUCUAUUUAUACUUUCUUUGUAUGUUAUAAAGUUUUUUUUUUUUUUUUUUUAAAAACAAAAUAGAGUGUAAGUAGACUAAAGAAGAGAAAAAAUCAACUCCCUUAUUAUUAUUUUUGGUUCUUUGACGAGGCAAGAAAAUUAAAAAAAGAUGUCGUCCAAAGUCGAACUUUUAUAUAAUGCGUAUAUUUUCUAUUGUAAUAAAUAUUGUAAAUAAUUGACAGAACAACGAAAAAUCAGUGGGGAUGUGAUCAUGUGAUAAUUUCAAAUUUCUCUUGUGAAACAAGGAAGGUUCCCCUCUUCGACCAAAAGAGAAGAAGAUGCCCUCUUAUGUAAAGACAUGCACUACCCCCAUCCUUAAUCAUAUAGUAAUUAAACUACUGCUUAUAUUUAAAAAAUUUAAAAAAAAAAUGUCCAAAAAGUAGUAAUUAAAAUGGUGGAUAAUACCCAUAUAAUACCCGUAAUUACAAUAAAUGGUGGAUAGCAGAGGUGCUGGGCGUGGGCCUUUUGCAAUUGAAUUUUUUGGGGUUAAUUUUGUCCUUUGCUACGCGCGAAUCUAUGCCUGAUGGUUUCCAAGAAAGAAGACUUGUUCUUAUAUGAGUGAAUAAUAGUUGUUUAAAAGAUAUAAAAAAAUUGUUAAGCACCUAUUUGUAAUAAAUUAAACAAAUAAAUUAAAAGUUUUUAAAUAAAAAAAAACAUGGAGCGACUUGUGGGUUGUCGGCCCACCGUCUUUCGCUUUGGCAUUGCCUUUCGUUUUGCAUUUUUUUUGUCCUCGUCAAUUUGUAUUUAUUUCUUGGGUUGCUGUACCUACUAUUUUGCUCCGACCCUAGUGUAUUGAGUGGGACAAUUUACCAUGCAUGCAAUUAUUUAUUUGUUUUUAUUUAAAUAUUAAGGAGAGCAUCAUGGUUAAGUUUUUCAUUAAUUAUGGGGUGAUUUUCACUUUUUUACCCUUAAGUUUAUUGAGUUUCAGCCUUUAUUACAUAAAGUCUUGAGUUUUUAUCAUUAACAUUUCAAAAGUGUUUAUUUGAGUCUUUCAACUUUGAAAUCAAUCAAUUUUGUCCUUAAUUGUGCUCAGCAAUUCAGUUUGGUCCAUCUCAUUGCAUUUCAUAAAAAAAUAUUUGUUAAAAUUGGUCAUGCGAUCAACUUUAAGGCUUCAUUUUUAUCAAAACACAGCCUAUGUACUCAUAACGAAAAAUAAAUCUUAUGUAUUUUUCUUGAUAAGGCUAUCCGGUCUCCUUGAUAGAACCAAAAUGUAAAAUCAUAAAUGGAGAAACGAUGACAUUUUGGAGCAAUAAUGUGAGUGUUAUGACUUAAAUGAGGUAAAAAAAAUCCCUUUUAAAGUUGGCAACGUGAUGAUGUGAGACAAAAUUCACCGAAUGUUUUGUCAAAAUGCAACAACAAUGUAGACCAAAAGAUGAAGGACCACAUUAAUUGAUUUGAGAGUUUAAUGACUAAAAUGAGAACUUCUAAAAAGUUCAGAAACCAUUUGUGAUAAAAACCUAAAGGUUUUUUUUUUUAAAUCUCACAUACACAAAGUUCAUUUUCCUACCACCUUUAUAGCUACUUCACUCAGUAUGUUAAUCACUGGUGUAACAAUAAAUAUGCCAUGUCGGCCCACUCAUAUGGUGCCACGUGAUUAGACAAAAUAAAUAUGAAAAAUUGGAUUAAACAAAAAUAUAAAACUUAUAUAUAUUUGUAAUUUUUUUUUAUUUAUAAAAAAAAUAAAUCUCUCUCAUGCUCCCUUUCCUCCUUCUUUCUUCAACAACCAUGAACAUUAACCCACCCUUCCCCCCCUAUCUCGUUAGCCUCCAUCCACCACCUAUAGUGCAGCCUCUAGCCAUCUCAUCUAGCCCUUUCUCCCUAUCUUCUUUUCCCUCCUUUUCCAUCUUCUCCCACCUCAAGCCACUGCCUCCAAACAACUGCGCCCCACCCCAAGAUCUGUUGAAGAUUGGCUCCCUAUUUGAUGCGGGAAGAAGAAGAAACUAAAGGGGCUGCAAAGGAGCAGCAAGAGAGAAAGAGCAUAAGUUGCAAGGAGGCAAUAUCACAGCAGGCGGUUGAUCGCUUGGCAAAACUACUGGUCGUCGCUUCAAUUAGUGAGAGCUAAGGCGGUUCAAGACUGUAAUGAAAGUUGUUCUUAUAUAGUAGUGAAUUUCUUAGGUGGAUCACCAAAAGGAUGUAGGCACGAGGCAGAACCUCUAUAAAUCUUUGUGCUCUUGUGUGUUUGUUUUCUCUCUUCGGUCUGCGUGUGUUUUAUUCUCAAAGGGAUUUGUGUGUGUGUCGUUGCAUAGUCCAUGAACGACAAGGUCUUGGAGUGUUUUCGCACAACAAGUGGUAUCAGUAGCCUAGGUCAGCAAUAUGUAUUGGUUUUAUGCCCAAGUGCUCUUAUAGUUUUAAGAGUGUUUGUAAGUGUUGAGGAUGACUGGCAACAAGAAGACGGUGGGAGAAAGCUCCCAAACAAAGACAUCAUAAACGGAUAGCAUGAAGCUCGAGGUGAAGAUAUUCACAAGAAAGGAGAACUUCAAGAAAGAAGAACUUCAAGCUAUGGGGAAUGAAACAUGACCUAGCCCAGCAAGGUUUAACCAUUAUCUUGGUAGGCAAAGAGUCAAGGUCGAAAAUUAGGACAACGGAAGAGAGGGACAUUCUCGGCAAGUUGGUUAGGGGGUCAUUCAAGGCGAUGGAAGACACUGCAAAGCAAACACAAGAAAAGCUCAAAUGGAUGUUUGUAGGGAAUGUCCCUAUCAAACGAACGCUUCAUGAAGGAAGAACUCAUAAAUCUUCGGAUGAAGGGGGGUGGAAAUCUCACGGAGCAUGUUAACACUUUUAAUAUGUGUAUUGCGGGCUUGCAGAAGGUAGACGUGGUUUAUAGCACAGAGGAUGUGGCGAUGAUGUUGUGGGCACCAUUGCCUCCACCCUAUAAACACUUUCGGAAGAUGCUGAUGAUUGGCAAGAUUAUUCUUAAUUUUGAGGAGGUGGUGCAAGACUUGGUGCAUCACAGAUUGGCUCAAAAUUUUGGAGAUAGCUCUCAAGGUGAGGGUCUAUUAACAUGAACCGAAUAGCGGGGUCGUUCAAGCAAGCGUAAGGGCAAGAAAGGCAAUGGGAGGAAUCCUAAAUUCAAGGACAAUAAAAGGUGCUUCAAGUGUGGGUUGACAAAGCAUUGGAAACAAGAUUGUCCGGUAUGGAACGAGAAGCGGAACAAGAUGAAGAAUGCUGAAAGUUCAAGCGCAGCCAAUGAUGAACUUUUGACGAUUAGAGAAGAGGAGCGUAACAGGGACGUCAUGACAAGUUCUUAGGAUAUGGGUUCUACUUCAGUUUGGAUUUUAGAUUUCGGAUGCUCUUAUCAUGUGUGUUUAAAACAAGAUUAUGUUAGGAGAUAAAACAAGUUGUGAUGUUUUGGGCUUAGGAACAGUGAAGAUCAAGAUGCAAGAUGGUGUUCUAGAUAGAGAAAGGGUAUUCGUACAAGGCCAAAGAACGGAAGCUCUUAGUCACACAAGGUUCAGUGGUGAAUAUGACGGGGAAGAUUUAACCUAACAACGUUUAUCAGCUUUUUUUUGGGGAGGGGGGUUGGUACAAUUGCAGGUGGAACAAAAAAUUCUACCAAGAUGGCACUUGUACCAAAGAAACAUGGGCAAGGGAUCUUACUGUCAAAGAGCCGAUGCAACGAAAUUAAGCUACUGGUUUGCUCAAGACUAGUUGGGCAAAGAAGGUUAAUCAGGGUCGUAUAAUUACCAGUUUAUCAUCAAAGGUGCUUGAUUUCAUAGUGGUUUGGGCUUCGACUUUUGUAAGUAUGUGUGGUUGUAUUUUGAGUGUUUUACUGUUUUGUUUGAAUUUUUGUUUGGUUUUGGUAAUUUUUGUCAUUAUAUAUAUUUUCUAAACCUUCUAGUAUUUUAAUUCUUGUAUGUUGUGAUCUUUAUUUGCUUUAGUACAUUUCAUUUCUUGUUAUAACAUUGCCUAUGCCUAAUUUUUCAACAUUGAGGACAACGUUAAUUUCUAAGUUUGGGAACGGAUAACAAGUCAUUUUUGUUUCACUUAAUUUCUUGCUUUGUUUUGUUUUUCUUGCAUUAUUUCGUUUUCUUUUGUUUUCAUUUUUGAGUCAUUUUUUUUUCUUACGAGUCACUUUCCGAACACAUAUGAUGAGAUUGUGAUGAAUGUUUGCAUGAGUUGAUUGAAAAUUUGAAUUUAUUAUUAUUUUUAUUAUUAUUCACUUAAUGGCAUUGUUCUAGCAUGAUAUGUUUGAAACCUUAGAUGCACUUGCCAUGUGUUUCAUAAUUCUUGGUGGGAAUGUUUUUGCUUUGUUUAUGUUGUGUUAGUUUUCUGAAAACUUUGAGUGUUCUUUGUACCUAAGUCUGUACAUUUUUGUAACUGAUUUUGCCAUUUGGUUCUUGUGUGUUCUUCAUUUUUCUGUGCCGAAGCCAACCAUAUAAAGAACGUGAAAUUUGGACAAAUGGUUGGAAAGUUAUUGGUCAAAAAUUAGACAGAGGUCGAAGUUGAAAAUAGGGCGCACACUUUGCCUAAAAAUGACCGAUUGUUUUGUUCGUGCCACUGGUUGACUUUCAUCUUGUUUAAACAUGCCACAACUUGCUUCAAAACGACCGGUCGUGCACUAUUCAUCACAUUGUUUAACAAUAAAAAAAAAAAUUAAUUUUUUUUUUUUUUGGAGUCAUUUUAAUUUUCCUUCCAACUGUUGUUUAUAACAUUGUUUGUUCCUAAAUUUCAAACAUUCAUGACAAUGCUUACUGUAAGUUUGGGAAGGUAAAAAAAAAUUUAUUUUUAUUGAGAGAUUGUCUUCCCCCUAAAGCUUUGAAAAAUGUAAUUUUAUUUAUAAAAAUUACAAAUGACGAAAAAGUCAAAAUUGUUUGUAGACAAAGCACAAUAGUACUUAUACUUUCAUAACAUAACUCUAAGGUUUGUGUGAUUCAUUGGUGAACAUAAAUACAAAUAUACGAAAUCCUGAUUUUAGCAUUCUAAUAUAGAAAAAUAAAGAAUUUAGGGUUUAAGGUAUAUUGAAACGACGCAUGUUUCUUCUUGACGGUUUUUGGUCAAUUACGCCCUUGGUCAAGCACGUUCGAAUUCCUGGAAAAUCAAAUCCCACCUAAUUAUUUUAUUUUUUAAGAUGUUGGUGUUAGUUUUUGCGCUGUGAAAAGGUUUUACUACUGCAUAAUCCAUAUAUUACUGCCGUAGUAAAGUCGUACAACGGCCCUAUACAUGUCAUAACUGUCGUCUUCGUCGUGACCUUCAACGAUGUUUUUUUUAUUAUUAUCGUUUUCGUAGUUUUUUAGAAAAGCGGGCCUUUGAAAUAUUUGACUGCGAUCUAAAUUUUUUAGAAUUCGCCCUUCCUCGAAAACAUUUCGCUCUCUCUCUUCAACUCAAAUUCUAAUCUUAAAGUUUUCGCUUUGCAUCCUCUGUUGUUUCUGAUUGCGCUUUCCCUCUCAAAGCAUUGGUGAUAUUCUCUGAGCUCUGUCUACCUGUAAGUACAAACCUUAAUCUCACAUGCUUGUCCUACUUUAUUUAAUGAUAUUGUGUUAUAGGUUCUUAAGUAUGAACCUAAUCUGACAUGCUUCUUAAAUCAAUUAAUGAUUUCGUUUGUUUUGGUAGCUAUGAGUUCUUAAUAUAUAUUUUUGGGAGCUAUGGGUUCUUAAUAUAUGUUUUGGGAGUUAUGGGUUCUUAAUCGGGAAUGGAAUCUGAAAAACCCAUUUAAUGUUUGCAUGCUUUUCAUAAUAACUCUCUGUUAUGUGUUCUUAAUGCAUGUUUGGUUAGCUAUGGGUUCUUGAAAAAUGAUUGGGAAUUGGAGAUUUAUUUUCUGGAUUUCUGUAUCAUACAACAAUGGUCAUUGGGGCAAAUUGUGGUAUGUAUUGUCAUUAUACGUCGGUAGUUCUGCAACUAUCGUCGUAUUAAAUUUGUAUUGCAUUUUGAAGAAUAAUUUUCUAGGUUUUGGUAGCCUAAAGACGAUGGUUAUUGGAGAUACCAUUGUCUGUAUUACUAUAACACGAUGGUCUUCUUGUUAAUACCGUCGUUUGAAACUUGUAUUAUUUGCUUUUAAAAAAAAUUAUACUCUGCUAUGUGAAUACCGUCGUCUGUCAUUGCUUGUCUUUUCACUUUAUUAUAUAUAUGAUUAUAUAUUGUGGAAGAUGGAUAAGUCAUGGAUGCAUGCGGAUAGAAGAUCGAAGGCAUAUGAGUUAGGAGUGGAAGAAUUUUUGAAUAUUGCUACAGAAAAUCUCGGAAAUACAACACAUAUUCAUUGUCCAUGUAUUAAAUGUGGGAAUAUUCGAUUGUUUGGGGUUGAAAAUAUAAGGGACCACUUAUACUUUAAUGGAGUUGACCAAAGCUAUAAGAUUUGGACAUGGCACGGAGAACCUUGGGGAUGGACUACUAAUGCUAGUAGAAAUGUGGAAGAAGAUGACCAAAGUAGGUACAGUGUUGUUUCUGAAGAAUUAGAGAUGGAUGAUAAUGAUUUAGGCAAUAUUGGAUCUGAUCCUUAUGAGUUUACCAAUGUGAUUGGGGAUGGAGAUCAACCUUUGUACCAUGGUUUGCAGUAAGUACACGAAGUUGUUGGCUUUAACGAAGUUAUAUAAUUUGAAAGCAAAACAUGAGAUGAGAGAUGUCUGUUUUACAGAAUUAUUGAUACUUCAAAGAAAUUUGCUUCUAGAAGGAAAUACAAUACCUUCCUUUAUGUACGAGGCAAAAAAGACUUUGUCUAUAUUGGGGAUGAGUUAUGAGAAAAUCUACGCAUGUCUCAAUGACUGCAUCUUGUAUAGAAAGGAUUAUGAAGAUUCAACUAAUUCUUAUACUUGUGGACACUGGCUGACCUAGGAAUUUUUGAGCGGAGGUGUAAUAUUGAAUAAGUAUAAAAAUGGUUUUUUGGAAUAAUCAUUUUCUCAAUAUAAUUUUUGGCGGCUUUUAUUCCUUAGACAUCAAAUAAGAAAACUUGAUUUUAUGAGAUUUUAAACUUGAUUUUAUGGGAUUUUAGUAAGAAGUAUAUAUUUCCAAAUGGGGGGUACUUCCUUAUUUAUAUUGUAAACUUAAGUAAAUUGAGUAAUAUAAAAAUAAAUGAAAGUAAAAGGACAAAGACAUUUACUUAAAUAUUGAAAAUGGAAAUAAGGUAAUCUGUACACCAGUUGAGCAAAUGGACAAUUUGAAGCACCUACAAUGGUUUUUCCGACGAGGGAAGGUGCAGCUGCACCUUCUUGGGCCUUAAUAAGUCAACCACUAAGUUGUGGUAUCUCAAGGUAGAAGGAAGGCAAAAAUUCAAUUUUAAAAGAUGGUGUGCCAACGAAGGUGGUAUGGUAUUUUCCGCCAAUUUCAAGGUUUAAAAAGAUGUUUCAAUCACUUAAGACAUCUAAGAGUUUGACUUGGCUUGUUGAUAGAAAAUCAAUUGACGGUCAUAUAUCUCAUCCAGCAGAUUCCACGUCUUGGAAACUUGUUAAUGAUAAAUGGCCCGAGUUUGGUAAAAAGUCGAGAAACUUGAAAUUGGCUCUCUUAUCUAAUGGAUUCAAUCCUCACAGUUCUUUAAGUAGCAGAUAUAGUUUUUGGCCAGUUAUCUUAGUUACAUAUAAUCUACCACCAUGGCUAUGCAUGAAACGAAAGUUCAUGAUGUCGACCUUAUUGAUUUCCGGUCCUAAACAACUUGGAAAUGAUAUAGACGUCUACUUAGAGCCUUGAUUGAAGAUUUAAAUUCUUUGUGGGAUGAGAUUAGAGAAGUGAAUGAUGCACGCAUAGGAGAAUACUUUACACUAAGAGGUGUAUUACUGUCGAUAAUUAAUGAUUUUCCUGCAUAUGGAAACUUAUCUGGUUGUGUCGUUAAAUGAUAUAAAACUUGUCCAAUAUGCGGCAAUGAUACACCUAGUCACAGGUUGAAAAAUGACAACAAAAUUUGUUACAUCGGGCAUAGAAAAUGGUUACCAACAUAUCAUCCAUAUCAGAUGUAACAUGCAAUUUUUAAUGGGAAACCAGAAUAUGACACGCCUCCCGAGCCAUUAAUCAGAGAAGAAGUGCUGUAAAUGGUUGAAGGUAUUAAUUACAAAUGGGGCUCGAAAAAAGGGGAAAUGUUGGUGAAAAUGAUGGUGACAUGUUGGAAGAAGAAGUCAAAAUUCUUUGAUCUUGAGCAUUGGAAAUACCUUCCUGUGAGACAUGCCCUAGAUGUUAUGCACAUUGAGAAGAAUGUUUGUGAUAGUAUCAUUAGUACGUUGUUGGAGAUCCUGGGAAAAAAUAAAGAUGACAUUGCUGCUCGGUUAGAUUUAUUGAACAUGGAGGUCAAAAUAGAUUUGCAGCCUGAGUAUGGAGAAAGACGUAUUCGCUUACCUCUAGGGCCUUAGAAUUUGUCAAGAGCAGAGAAGAGAGCGGUUUGCAAUUUUUUUUAUGGUAUGAAGGUCCAUGAAGGUUAUUCUUCAAAUAUAAAAAAUCUUGUAUCUUUACAAGAGUCAAGACUUCUUGGCCUUAAAUCACAUGAUUGUCAUACCUUGAUGCAACAAUUACUCCCUCUGGCAAUUCAUUUUGUUUUGGAGAAGCCUGCAAGGUAUGCAAUAACUCGAUUGUGCUUCUUCUUCAAUGCUAUAUGUGCAAAGACGGUAGAUGUUUCCAAGCUAGAUAAAUUAGAAGAAGAUGUAUUAGUUACUUUGUGUUUGCUUGAGAAAUACUUUCCUCUUUCAUUCUUCGAUCUCAUGGUUCAUCUAGAAGUACAUCUUGUCAGAGAAGUUUGUCUAUGUGGGCUCAUUUUUUCAGAUGGAUGUAUCAUUUCGAAAGAUAUAUGAAAGUGCUAAAAGGGUAUGUUCAAAAUCGUACUCAUCCUGAAGGUUGCAUUGCUGAGCGGUAUCUAGCUGAAGAAGCUGUAGAGUUUUGCACCGAGCAUUUGUCUGAUGUUAAUACAGUUGGAGUGCCAUCAAGCCAGAAGAUGGGACUUUCAAAGCCAUUAUCAGGUUGCACAGUAAGCUUAGUUGAUCGGGACCUGUUGAACCAGGCACAUCUAUAUGUCUUGGAGAAUACGGAGUAAGUCCUACCUUAUAUCGAGUAUGAGUUUUAUUCUUUAAGUUAGCCAUUUCAAAUUAUCUUAUGUUUAUCUUAUAUACAAGGGACCGUAAUGCUUGAAUUUUUCGUGUUAUGUAGGGAACAUAUGAUCCACAUCAAGACUACUUACCCAAAAUUUAAAAAGAGAACAAAGUGGCUGCAAGAUAAGCAUAAUAGCAUUUUCAUUCAAUGGCUACGCUUUAAGGUAUAUGUUAUUGAAUAAUAUAUUGGCCUUUAAUUUUCUUCUUUUUAUGUUAGAUUGAAUUAAGAUAUGAUUAAUUUGAAGGUUCAAAGUGAACUCAAUGGGAAAGACAAUAAUGGCGUAUCAAAAAAUUUGAGAUGGCUAGCAGCUAGUCCAAGCAUGGCAGUGCCAUCAUUUAGGAGCUAUCUUGUUAAUGGUGUUAAAUUCAACACAAAGGCGCAAGAUGAUGUGCGAAUUGUCCAAAAUAAUGGAGUUUAUUUACUUGCACAUACUAUAUAAGUUGCUUGUGCCAAGGAUAAAAACUCGAUUGUCUCCAAUAUGCGAUUUUAUGGUGUCAUUCAAGAAAUUUGGGACAUUGACUACCAAAAAUUUAGAAUCCCAGUCUUCAGGUCUGAUUGGAUAGAUAACACUUUGGGCCUUGUAGUCAACGAACUUGGAUUUAUCCUUAUAGAUCUGAGUAAAAUUGGACAUACGAAUGAUCAAUUUGUUAUGACUUCUCAAGUCAAACAAGUAUUUUUUGUUGACGACUCAAUGCAUCAUAGUUGGUAUGUAGUGUUAUCUGACACAUUUGAUGACCUAGUGAGUGUGUAGAUAUAUGGAUUGAUUGAUUGUUGUAAUGUAUGACAUUAGUUAUGCAGUUAAUUGUAUGACAUUAAUUAAUGGCUCUGUAUGACAUUAAUUUUGUAAUAAAUUGUAAUGUUUGACAUUAUUUUUAUCACUUUUUCAUUAUGCAAAAUUUGGGCGCGACAAUUCCAGCAUUAAUACGACUGUCCAGUUAACAAAUUACAAAAAUAGACGUCUGAAUCAUACCCAAAGUCGUAGUUUAACAAACGACGUAGAAUGGACGAUGUAAACGACCAUACAUAAAUAAAAACCGUCAUUUGAAAUAAAAAACACGUCGGUUAAUUAAAAUUGAUAUUACAUAACAAUUAGGCGACCGUAAAAAAAAAAAAAAUUCCAAUAACGACUGUCACGUUAAGCCGUUACUACUCAAAAUUCACGUCGGCGUUGUUCAUAGAAGUGACAUUUCAAAAGUAAUAACACAACGGUAAAGGGCACAAACCGACAAAUUUUACAAGAUCACUACGACCUCCCAUAAAUAUUUACCGUCGUCUAAAAAAACCAUAAAAGGCUUCUUAGUUUAAGUAUCUAUAGUGAGAGUUCUUCUGAACGUUGGUAAAAUGACAGCUACCAUCGUAUCAUAAAAUACACAUGACGAUAUUAGUGUUACAAGUGCCGUGUACCAUAGGAACCACGUCUAUAUUUAUAUUGUACACGUUGUGGUAAGCUAAUUAACAACGUCGUUUGGGUAAAUACUAGGGCCGUAGUAGAUAAAUUAACCACGAUAAUUUAUUUUAAAUCACCAUUGUUAAAGCAAUUAACCACGGUGGUUUAUUUUAAAUAACCGCCGUGAAAGUAGUUUUGAACAACCGUUUAUGUAAUAUUUAGGGUCAUGGUUACUCUAUGUUACGGUAGGACAUGAAUAAAUUGUGACAUGUUAUCUUCUUCAGAUGUCACAAAGUUUCAAAAAGCGUCAUCUAAGCUUAUCUAAGUUGCCUUUUUUGCUUUUUAUUUAUUUAUUUAUAUUAAUCAGACAUUAGUUAUGAAACAAUAGCAUUGUCGUAUAUAGUAAUAACUACGUUCUUUUCACAUUUACAAGCAUUAAUACCUGUUUUGCACGUCGGUAGGGAUCGUAAGUGUCGUGGAAUAUGUAUUAACUAGACGGUUUAUUUUAAUGUACCGUCGUGGAAGAUUGUCUAAAUGACAGGAAGUUAAUAUUUAAGGUUGUCUUUACUCUAUGUGACAUCGGUACGUGGUGAAUUUGUGACAUGUUAUCUGCUUUAGAUGGCUCAAGUUUCUAAAAGCGUCGUCUAAGGUUGUCUAAGUUUUCCUCUUUUUUUUCUUUUUUUUUUCCUUCCCCGUUUUUAUAGUAAGUAGACGUCGCCUGGUGUUUAGAUAUGACGUAGUUGUCGGUAAUUUACCUUCAUAGUCUUAUGCAUAAAAGAUGGCGGUCGAUUUCACGACGGUUUAAAAACCAUCUACAUGAUGAUGGAUUUCCGUCGUCUAUUGCGAUUUUUGUAGUAGUGCAAAGAUAUGCAACUCCAAGAAUUAAAUAGUCAUUUUACAGAGACUAAUACUGAGUUGCUUCUUUGUAUGGCAUGUUUAAGUCCACUUGAUUUAUUCUCUGCUUUCAACAAACAAAAGUUGAUUCGCCUUACUCAAUUUUAUUCGAAGGACUUUUUAGAGAAUGAUAUCUUAGCACUUGAGGAUGAACUUGAGACUUACAUAUUUGAUAUGAAAUCUAGUAGCAUGUUUUGGGAUUGAAAGGAAUUGGUGAUCUUGGAGAAAAAUUGGCAGAGACAAAAAAAAAAAAAGAAAAGAAAAGAAAGGGUAUACCCAAUGACAGAUCUAGGAAUUUUUCAAGGGAGGUGCAAUAUUUAAAAGGCUAAAAAUUUAUAAAGGACUCAAGCAAGGCCCUGGGUUCAAGUCCUAACAUCCGUGUAAUGUGUUAAAAAAUAUAAGGUUAAAAAUUCAAAAAAUUUUUAUACAGCCAAAUGCCCUUAGAAUUUAACCAAUACUAAUUUCACUCAUAAUUAAAACAAAUAAGAGUUUUACGUCUACAACUAAUUGAUUAUAGUCUAUAUGGAUAUCAAUUAAUAUGAACAAAAUCCUUGUCAUUGACACAAUUAAUUUACCAAAAAAUUCAUAUCAAAUAUGAACAAAAUCCAUGUCAACUACAUAAUUAAUCUAACAAAAGUAAAUACCAAUUAAUCUAACCAAAAACACAUGUAAAUUGGAGGUCAUGAAAUAAAAGUACACAUGAUUAAAAGUUUGGGGUAAUUUUUGGUGAAUUUUUUGGCACACAUAUGAGUUUUUAAUAAAAUUUUUAAUUUAGGCCAAUUCGAAAUAGCCAUGUGUUGGCUUUCUAUUGGAUCAUUUAAAAAAGAAUCAAAAUUACAAGCGCUGACGCGGAGUUUUUCUUCUUCCUUGAUGUGCCUCUGCGACUUAACUUCAAAUAAUCUAGAAAAACUUCGAAAAUUCAUAACUUCGGUUGUGGAGCUCUGAUUAAUGAACCGUUAUCUCCUACAUGCGUGUGAGAUCGAGCAUCGAGCUCAACAACAUAAGGUAAAUAUUCAGGGUCUCACAAUGCAGCAAACAAUACAACGUCUUUGAGGCAUUUAGUCGAACAAUUAGUGAGCACUAGCAAAUGGGCAAAUUCUGGCAUCCCUAAGGAAGUUUCCAGCGAGGGGAGGUGCAGCUGCACCUCCUUGCGCCUCUGUGGAUCCGCAAAUGGGUAUACCCAUUGGUUUAUUUGCUUGUGAUACUGGCAGUAAUCCUACCAGUUGUGACUGCCUCUGUGAAAAGAGCAUUUUUUGCUAUGAAUAUACUGAAAAGUAAUAGGUGUAACCGAAUGGGAAAUAUAUGGAUAAAUGACAGCUUGAUCAUAUAUAUUGAGAAAGAUACAUUUGAUAUUAUUGAUAAUGAAGUGGUUAUGAAAAGAUUUCAAAAGAUGAAAACUCGUCGUGGACGAUUGUAGAUGUAUUAAGGACCAUUAAUAUCACAAAAAGUCCUUAAGUAAGAUGACAAUUUCACAGACCUUAGGACUAUUUGCGAUAAAACGCCUUUAAACUUAUAUAGCAUUUUGGUUUGGAAGUAUGUGAGAGGAACAAGAUGAUAACAGAAGAGGUAUUGUACAUGAUGAGAUAACAAAGUCAUCCUCGUAUUCGAAGAACUGACUUGGUAGGUACAAAUUACAAUGGCCCGUCAGGCAAUUUCUAAUUUUACAAACGCGCAGAGAGAAAUGUUAAAAUCAUACAUCCCAUAAUAACUAAGUGCAAGCUUUAUAAGCUUUAUUACAUUCCAAGAAAAGCUGAUCUUCCACUUGGAAUUAAUCUACACAAAGCCUAAUGCAUAUUUAUCAUUCAGCUUAGUUCUAACACUGAGCUCCUGGUUUGCGAAGAGUCUUUACGCAAACCAAAUACAUGAUGACGGAAACGCCAACAUAAAAACUUAGGCAAAAGACAAUGAAGACGACACGAAGCACACUACCCUUUCUAGACCGCACUAGUUGUGCAGCAGCGGGAGGAGCAGCCGGGGGAGCAGCGGGCGGAGCAGCGGGGGGAGCAGCGGGCGGAGCAGCGUGGGGAGCAGCGGGCGGAGCAGCGUGGGGAGCAGCAGGCGGAGCAGCUGGAGGAGCAGCGUGGGGAGCAGCGGGCGGAGCGGCGGGAGGAGCAGCACGCGGAGCGGCGGGGGGAGCAGCGGGAGGAGCGGCGGGGGGAGCAGCAGGAGGAGCAGCAGCAGCGGGGGGAGCAGCCGGCGGAGCGGCAGCGGGGGGAGCAGCGGGGGGAGCAGCGGGCGNNNNNNNNNNNNNNNNNNNNNNNNNNNNNNNNNNNNNNNNNNNNNNNNNNNNNNNNNNNNNNNNNNNNNNNNNNNNNNNNNNNNNNNNNNNNNNNNNNNNUUUUUUUUUUUUUUUUUUUUUUUUUUUUUUUUUUUUUUUUUUUUUUUUUUUUUUUUUUUUUUUUUUUUUUUUAAUUUUUUUUUACUUUUUUUAUUUUUUUUUUUUUUUUUUU